rnacentral:lncRNA from 1 species
UCCAACUUGGUAACGAUAAUCCUUCAUAGUAAUUUAUGUCCAAGCACUUGAGAUUUGAGUGAGGUUGAAGCUCUUCGAGUACUUGCUCAUCAUGAAUAGUUGGGGGCUCAGUAAAUCCAUCAUUGCUUUCCCAUGACAAACAUAAUUCAUGAAUGUCUGUUUUACCCAUCAAAUUAGCCGCUUCAGCUUCAGAUAAACUGCCCACAUCUUUUAAGCCUUUGAUACUCAGCUUUCCACCAAGGUUUAGAUCACAUAACUCUGUCAAGCUAUUCCCUUUCUCUAAACUAACAAUGUACAUGCUUAAUGUUCUUAGACAAGAUAAUUUGCCAAUGUUAGGAAACAUGAGAGACAAAGAUCGACAUCCUUUAAUGACUAUAUGUCUAAGAUUUUGUAAGCAAGCCAAGUGUUUCGGGAGACAACUCAGUUCACCGCAGUCUUUUAUUUUCAAUAUUUCCAGUUUUUGUAAGUUGUAAAUUGAGUCCGGCAACAUUUUUAUGUCAAGAGAACGAAGUUCCAAAUACCUUAAAUGAAUUAAACUUUCUAGUGAUAAUACAUGGGAUAUGCAUAAAACCCGAAGAGAGCGGUUUAAUGGGAAGUGAUCAUAUUUUUUUGCAAAAAAAUUAGGAUUCUUCAAGUUAAACAACAAUGUUCGCAAGGAUUCAACUUUUUUAAAGGCACCCUCAUCGAAUGAUAACAAAUUAUCGGAGUUAAAACUUAUGUGGUGUGUGCUUUUUGUCAAACUAGUCAUGUUUGCAUUCUCCAAAUACACACAUUCUUGCCCCAUUACUGAUUGAGCGAGAUCAUGGACAAGAUCAUGCAUCUUGAAAAAAAUGUCUCCAGAGUAUUCAUCCAUCUUGAUAUCUUGAAAGAAUGACUUUUGGUACAAUUCCUUCCAAACCAUAUUUCCAACAUCUUCAACGUCCAAAUUACCCUUAGAUGAAAUAAAUCCAUUAGCCAUCCAAAGUUGAAUCAAUUCUUCUUUCAGGAUUUCUCCAUCCUUGGGAAAUAUAGCGCAAAAGGAGAAACAUUGUUUUAGGGUUGGUGUUAAAUAAAAGUAACUCAACCUCAAAGCAAGCAAAAUAGAAUUUUCUUGUGGUAAAGCCCAAAGCUCACUGUCUUUAAUAUCAAGCCAUUCCUUUUCUUCAUUCCUUGAGCUCAUCAAACCUCCCAAUGUUUUUGCUGCAAGAGGCAAUCCAUUACAUUUCUUUACAAUCUCCUUUCCUAUUUCCACAAGCUUUGUAUGCUCUUCUCUGAAAUAUCCAAAUGCAUAUUCUUUGAACAACAACCAACAUUCACUAUCAGAGAGACCAUACAAAGAGUGAGCUUGGCAUGUUCCCAUGAUUGUUGCAACAAAUUUAUCACGAGUGGACACUAAAAUGGAACUACCUUUUGAUCCACACGACAACACAGACUUCAAAUGAUUCCAUUUAUCUUGUGUUAACCCAUAUUCCAAUUGUUGAUUUUGAUUCCACACAUCAUCCAAAACCAGCAAAUAUAUUUUACCUUGCAACAAUUCUUGCACCCUUCUUUCCAAUACAUCUAAAUCAAAGUCAGCAGACUUCUCUCUUGUGAUAGAUUCUACAAUAGAACACAAAAUUCUCUUGACUGAGAAAGUUUCAGAAACGCAAACCCAAAUUUUUUUAUCAAAAUUGCCACUCACCCUAACAUCAUUGUAGACCAAUUGAAGAAGAGUUGUUUUUCCAACACCACCUAAACCAAAAAUGGGAUAGACGGAAAGGAAGUCUGAGUCCCUCGUUUGGGUGAGAAGAAACUCAACAAUCUUUUCUUUAUCAUCUUCUCGUCCAAACACUUUUGGUUCAGCAAUAAUGGAGCUGGUUUGACGCCAUUCAGCUACUUCAUUUGAGCUUUCCUUAACAAUAGUACCCUCCCGUAGAAAAAACUUGUUCUUACUAUCAGCAAUAUCAUCCAAUUUCCUUGUAAUCUCUUUCAACCUGUUGCCGAUCUCAUGGCGAAACAUGAUGUUCUUUGGUUUGAAAGAGGUUAAUCCUCUAAGUUGACCAGACUUGAUUGAACACUCAUCAAGGAUAUCAUCGAGCACAUAAACAGCAUCUUUGAGUUGUUGUAGCCAUACCUUAAUAGAGUGGUCUGUGACUUGUUUCUUUUCAGCAUCUUCAAGAACAGCAUUGAUCAAAUCUAAGGUGGUUGAUAGUUUUUCAGCCUUUGACUUGAUUCUAGAAAUGGUUGAAAAUUCACUUUGUAGGAGAGACGUCAAAUUCUGAAACACAACUCCGAGUAAAGCGUCGGCCAUUUUUUGUGAAAACAAAGAGUUGAAAAUAUAAGUAAAUAAGAAAUUGGUUUAGAUUGAAAGAGUGUUGAAGUAAACAGAAGAACUUUGAGAAUAAAUGCAAUGGUAGUUGCAAGAAUGCAAGUGGUAUUCAAUAAUUGCGAGCAAACAUUCACGUAAACCACACAUUUAUGCAACUUGCAAGGUUCCAAUAUUGAUUGGGUGUUUUAGAACACGCAUUUUCUAUCACAAAUUUUCCCUCAAUUUUUUUUUUUCAAUCACAGAUUUAUUAUCGGGUCCAUUAUUGGUUUCGUUUCAUUUGUCUCUUGUUUUCACACUUGAACUACUUUAACCAAUAAGAUGUGGCCGACAUUUUAUUUAUUUAUUUAGUUGUUCCAUAUACAAUUUGGUCAUGCUCAUAGUUAUUUACUUUUGUGUACAAUUUGGGUCAUGCUAACUUGUAACUUAAUGAUACAUGUUAAACAACCUAAAAGUAUAAAAAAAAAAAAAAAAUCUUAAAUUUCGUACAUUCAAUUAAUUAAAAGAAAAAAAUUAAAUUAAAUGCAUUAAUUACAACAAAAUAUUUUUACAUUUGACUCAUUUACUUGUGUCUUAAGGGCAUAAGUUAACAUUUCACAAUAUGAUAAUUUGAAGCAUAGUUUCUUGUGUUCUCCUUGUACUCCCUCCGUAUGUCACCUUAGCAUAUUUUAUUUUAGCUAAAAUAUGAUUUUGGUCCUUGGAAAUAUGCCUCAUUUUGGUUUUAGUCCCUGUAAUUUUUGUUGUUGUUUUUGUCCAAAUAUGUCUCGUUUUGAUUUUGGUCUCUGACCUCACUUUUGUGAUGAUUUGCACACGCGGCACAUGACGACUGAACCCAUUUAUGAGAAAAAUAGUCCCUAAAAAAUCUUUUGAUUUUUAAAAAGAUCCCUGCAAAAUAUUUUGUUUUUGAAAAUAGUCCCUUAUUAUCUUUUUGCAUUAUUAUAUCCUUAUUUAUUAAAUGGAUUUUUCUAUCAUGUGUAAAUUUGCACAUGUUAAGAAGUUUUAAAUAAUUUAGUGUUGGAACUUGCACAUUUAAUAUUAAGAAUAAAACUUUUUAAUAGUUACUACUAUUAGUUGUUUUAACAUGUGCAAUGUUGCACAUGUUAGAGAAACCUUAAUUAAAUUGCAUUCAACUUAACUACUCCACUAACUACAAUUAAUAAGAGUAUUUUAGCAAGUGAUAUUAAUUUUAUCAUUGAAAUCAACGCAAUUUUAUUUCCUUAAUAAUCGUGCACAAAUCUUAAACGAUUACUCCCUCCGUCCCUAUUUCUAAGCACCUCUUGCAUCUUUAUCUUUAUUAUAUAUAUUUGCACUAUUUUUUUUUAAAAGUACACGUGUCAUUCUCUCUAUGCUAAUUGUCAUUAAAUGUCUUAAUUUGGCCAUAUGUCAUGGUAGUAUCAUUCAUUUGUUUGAUGGUUGAUUUUAUUGAGAAAGGAUUUUAAUUUGUGAAUUCUUAUAAAGAUGUAUAAGGGAUACAAAAUCGGUACAAUAAUUAUAUCAUUAAUUAAAAAUUAUCUUAUUUGGUAUCAUGCUUUCACAAUCUCUAGAGUUUUGCUCAAUUAUUGAUUUAAAUCAAAUUGUAACAAAAACUCAUUUUUGUGGUUGAAAAUUCUUAAUCAUCUCAUUAAAAAAUUAUCAUUCAAUGACAUUUUGACGUGUGUCAUUAUUGUGUAGUUGAACCAAUCAUAUUGCAUCGUUUUGUCUUUUUUGCAUCAUAUUACUUAUUUUUAUAUUGCUUUGCAUAAUAUUUCAUUUAUACUGUUUACCUAUAUAUACUCUGUUGUUAUUCAAUUGUCUCAUUCAUCUAUUCCUCCUCCCCCCAUCAAUCUAAAAAACGAGAUUAUAAUGGCAUCAAGAUCUGAUAACAUAUCUGAGAUCAGCCCUGUGAAGGAAUCAUGGAUCGUGGUUGUUCGGAUUGUCUGUGUUUUGUUUGUUUGUGAUGUCUCUAGAUAUUUUUAGGUUGUAAGCCAAUCAAGCAUUUUAGGAUUAGCCAAUUUUGUAUCAGAUUCUUUAUUUGUUCAUGAUGUCAUUUGCUUUUAUUAUUUUUCCUAUACAUAGUAUAUGUUUCUUUCAUCAUUUCCACUUGCACAUUUCUUUCAAAUAGUGUUGUCAAACUCCAAAAGAUUGUCAUGACACCAAGAUUUGAUAACAUCUAUGAAAUCAACUCGAUUAAAGAAUCAUGAAGCGAGUUGUUCGAAUAAUUCAUGUUUGGUUUGUUAAUAAUAUCAAUUGUGAUAGACACCCGUUCUAUCUAGAUAUGAUUCCCAUUGAUGCGCCUAUUUGUAUAUAAUGAAUGUAAAAAAAUGACAUUUUAAAUUAAUCUAAUUUUUGUAUAUAAUUUAUGCCAUUAUGAGUAACUUGGGUGGUGAUGUAAAUCGUGGAUUGUAUCGAACAAAAGAGAAUGAAUACAAACUCAAUUGUAUAAGUUUCCCAAGACUUUUUUUAUUUUCAUUUUAAUUUCAAUAUGGAUGAAUAAUAACUAUAUUGUGUUUGACAAAUUAUGUAUUUUAAAAUCUCUUCUUUGUCUUCUCCUGAUUUUAAUAAUAAAUUAUAAUUAUAUUGAUACAUUGAUACACGUAAACAUCACUAAUAUGUGCGUACACGUUACCAUCUAAAUAUAUUUUUCUUAUUCACUAUUGUCUAAUCAAAUAUCCACAUCGACACAUAUACAUCUUAAUCGUCUUAAUCUCUAUCUCUAUUAUAAACAUUUACUUUUUUUUUUUUUUUUAAAGUACACAUGACAUCUUCAUACUUCCCAUUUCAUUUAAUGUUUCUCCAUCAACCAAUGAAAAUGAAUCUUGACGUAUUCCUUUUCUAUUAUCCAAUCAAAAUGGAUCAUGACUCAUUUAUUUUUCAUGAGUCAAUCAAAAUUGAUCAUAACAUGAUUUUUUCACUAUAGCAAUUUGGUUUUUUUAUUAUUUUCAUCUACCUCUUCCUCCCAUAAAAAAUCACUGCUUUCAACGCCAUUCUAUUUUCUUUUAUUUGUUUAUUUUUUAUUGUUUUAUUGUUUAUUUAACAUUUCUUAUUGUUAUGUUCCAUUUUAUUGUGAUUUCUUAGGUUGAUGAUUCUUAUUCAUAUUUUCUUUUCAAUAUUAUUUUGGUGUUUAUAUUUUUUUUUCCGGAUAUUUAUUUUGGACAUGAAACCAAUCAAGAGAAAAGAAGAAAUGCAUCACAAAAAUUAGAAUUUAUACGAAGGAUUUCUAUCACCACGUUCAAAUAUAAUCACUUUCAUCCCCCUUUUGAUUUAUUUUAAUCCCUUAAUUCUCACAAUUUUUUCUAUCUAUCUAUUCUUUUUUGUUUAAUUUUUCUUAUGUUGUUAUUUUACUUUUAAAAUCUUUCUCUUUUAUAUUUUAUUUUGGUGAUUUUUUUUUUUGCUACUUUAUGCUUGAAAUGGAAACCAAUCGAUAUAUUAGAAGAAACGCAUCCAUUUUCAUAAAAUUGGUUGAAUCGAUAACUUUCAAGUGAAAAAGAUAAGAAAUACAUAAUAGAAAAUCGAUUUUAUGACACCUUUGAUUUUUUUUUUUUUAGUCAAAAUUAAAAGUUCCAUUUUCUUUAACUAAAAGGGAGCAAGGUGCUACCUUAAAAUUUUAAGUGCAUUUGCAAAAAAAAAAAAAAAAAAAAAAAACUUAACAAUCAUUUAUAUUUUAUUUCCUUCAUCCUAAUUAAACAUUUAAACAUUAGUUGGGAUGUCGGUGUGGCCUCCUGAUGUCUGUCUUUCUCCCUGCUUAGCAAAAAAAUAAAAUUAAACAUUUAAACGAGUUUAUACUAUUAUUAAAAUAAUAUCACAUUAAAUAUUAUUAAUUUAUUAUGAUUUUUAAAUGAAAAAAUAUUAAUUUUUUAUUCACGUCGUAUUUUUUUAUCCAUCAUUCAUUCUAUUAUUAAAACUAAUAAUAACAUAUGCUUUAAAACUGUAUUAAUAUUUUUAUUAAUUCCCAUAUUUAUAAGCGGAAAGUUGUAAAAGUCUUAAAAUGACAAAACUAAAUGAAUUUUUGAUUACUCAUUAAUCAUGUUUCAAUGACCCUUUAAUUUUCACUCAUGUUUCAAUGACAACCAUCAAAUUAUUAUCAAUGUUUUCAAUCAAAUGGACUCAUGUACCCUUUGUCUUAAUUUUUGACCAAUUAGAUUUAACUAAAUCAUCAAAGGUUUCAAUCAUACACGUAUUUGUUAACAAACAAAAUGUAUGCUUUUCCGUUCAACUUUCAACCAUAACAUAGCAUGUUGACGUGACAUUUUUUCUUUUAUUUCAAUGUCUUUAUUGGUUUCCUUUGAUUGUGUUUUUUCUAUGAUGCUAUAGGUUCUUGGUACAAACUCGAAGGAAGAAGAAAAAUUUAAUUUUGUUUAUGGAAACAAAACAAAUUAAUCUAACAACUAAUUACUAACAUUUGACAUUAAAAAAGCAUUUCUUUUCUAUUCAAUUCAGUGAUAGUCUUUGUCCCAUAGUUUUUUUUAUCAUCAUCUUGAAUUUCAUUUGAAAAUAUUAUAGCAUUUAAUCAAACGAUCUUUGUUCAUGUAUAUGACCAAAUACGCUAAAAUUAAUUUGUGAUAAAAUAUUUCUAAGAAUACAACAAUGCCUUAAAUUUUUGUAAAAAAAAAUGCCUUAAUUUUGUUACUAAAGCCUUAAAUAUUAUAUUAUAUACAUUGAAUUUUUUCGGCUUAUUAUAGAAGUUUCUUAUUCAUAGCAAUUUACAAAUUCUUUGUCUUUGACGAAUUGGUACCAAAAAAAUAUUAAGCAAAUUUGUUGUUAAUUUUUUAAAAAUUUACUUUGAAAUUAAACCAAGAACUGAUUCCCAUUUUUAUUAAUAUGGAAUUUAUAUUUAUAUUGUUAAUAUAUUUCAAGCACUGACCUUUAACCACAUAUAUAUGAGUAAUACCGUUAUUUGAUAGAGAUUAAAUUUAAAUUACAAAUAUUUGUGAAGUAAUUAAUUUUUUACCUAUCGAAAUAGGAAUUUUUUUCUUUGUAAAAAAAUUAUAAUAAUUUAACUUGACACAAAUCUAAAUUCCAUAAACUCCAAAAAGUAUAACAAUUUAUACUACCAAUAAAAUUAAUGAAAUGAUCUUUCUAAACCUCUAAAAAGGUAGUUUUAUGCAAAGAGAAAUGUUAGCAACACACAUAUAAAUUUAAACACACGUUUCAACGUCCUCAUUUGAAUAAAAGUUGGAAAUUAAUAUAUCUUAAUGUUUAAUUAACAAUAAAAAAUAGCUCCAAAAAAAGCGCACCAUAUAAGUAUGUUCCUUUUUUUUUUACUCAUAUAAAAAUAUUCUCUUUUCCACUAAAAAAACAUAUUCAUUUUUUUUUAAUAAUUUUAUUUAGGUGAGUUGGAUCCAAAGAGAAAGCCCCUAGGAUAAAAAAAGAUAUUACAAAGGUAUUUAUGUAUUAUCCAUCUAGGAUGUCCUAACGAUGGUAUCGAGAGUUGUACUCACACUUUAAUAGGGGUAGGAGUCAAUUUAUUAUCAACUAAAUCAACAUAUAUCUACAAUAUAAGCACAUUCUCAAUCACACUAUAAAUAUUUUUCUUUAUCUUUAUAUUUAUAAUAUGAAUUAAAAACUCAAUAAAUGAAUAAUUAAAUGUUGGAUUAAAUGAAGAAAUAUUUACCACUAAAAUCAAUAAAUAAAAAGUUUUAAGUAUCACAAUCAUUUUCUUAAUUGCAAUUAUGCGCAUUCAACUACUAUUGAUUCAAUCAUUAAAAAUUUCAAUUAAUAAAUGCUAAAAAGUCAUAAUUAUUUAAUGAAAUAGUUUAAUUUUUUUUUUUUAUCAAUCAAAGAAAUGCAUUAAACAUGUAUGAAGGGGCCUGAUAUGAUAUGAAAUAAAUUAAACUAUCUGAUCCUAUCCUACGCAGGAUAUGAUAUGAUAGGAUAGACUCAUAAUUAUUUAAUGGAGUAGUUUAAUUUAACUAGAGUCCGUUUGAUGGCCAGUAUAGGGAGACAUGAUAUGAUACAUUAAUCAUAUUCUGCUUAAAUUUCAUGUUUGAUGCACCAAAGAGAUAGGAUAAAAUAAACCAUUUCCCUAUCAUAUCAUGACUUUCCUUUGUAAUUUAUAUCCUGAGUAUAGGCUAAGUUAGAAAUUAUCCUGAUGGGAUUAGAAGAUCAUUCCUUAUUUAUUAUCUUGAUAUUCUGCCAUUUUUAAAUAUUGUCAUUUUUAAAAUAGUUAUAGCAUGUAUUUUCUAUUAUAAUUAAUAACAUACCAUUUUUACAAUAUUUAAUUAAUUAUGAAAGCAAUUUUUUCAUUUAAUUAUAAUGAUAUCGUGUUUGUUAUCAUGUGCACAUCAAACACAUGAUAAGAUUAAUGUUUAUCAUGUCAUUAUCAUAUCUUAUCUCUAUCCAACUUUAUAUCAUAUCACGCCUUUGUCAUAUCCUGACCAUCAAACACACCUUUAACAGCAUGAGGAUAUUACAUCAAAAUUCUAAAUAAAGGCAAACUAGAGUUAUAUACAUAGUGAGCUUAUUUAUCAGACAAGAUAUAUCAAUACAUUGUUAAAAAAGCAUACACUCAGAAAGAAAAUUAUCUUCUGUUAAAAAAAAAAGAAAAGCAAACUAUCUUUUAAGGGAGAGAAAGCGAAGUUUAUAUUCUUAAUUGUUUUGAAUCUUUACACAAUCGUUCCAAUAUUGAAUGGUACAAAGUCAAAAUCAUAUUCAAAAUAAAAUCGAUUUUUUUUUAGGGAAGAUCAAUUUUAUUAUGUAAAUUAUUAUGCAUUGAACAUAAAAUUAAUGAGUAUGUAUGUUUUUCAAUAAAUUCAGUCGAAAAAAUAUUUUAAUAAAAAAAUUAUAUUUCAUCUAGCUAGAUAUGAUUUUUUUCCGUUAUUUUUAUUAUAUAGAAAAUAUUAAUAAUAAUUUAUUUUAUAUUUAUUGGCAAUAAAACUUCUUCACGCAGUUUCUGUGAGUAUAACUCAGUUAUUGGCAAUUUGAUCCCCUUAAAAAAAAUAUUAUAAUUUUUUGAUUUUUUAUUUACAAAAAUAAAUAUAUAAUUCAAUUUUUUAUAUUUUAAGAUAACAAAUUGGUACUUUUACUUCUUUUUUUGUCAUCUUCACCGAUCGAAACACAUGUCGACAUUGUUGAUACUAACCGAAAACAAAAGAGUAGUGAAGAACACAAAAGCUUGAAACUAGAUGCAGGAAACCGAAAUAAAAGGUUGUCUUGGUUUUAAAUUUCUUAACUCAUUCUCUGUUUUUACAAUAAACGGUUCAUUCAUUCUCUUUAUGUCUUAAUGUGUCAUUUUUCUUACUGCUAAAACGUUUGAUUUUUUACUUAUUUAACUUCUUCUUUUUUUAACGAGGGAUUAAUUUUUUCCCGUAAAAAUUCUUUUAAUGUAUGUUAGCACUUAACUAACACUUUUAACGCCACUUAGUUAAAUUAACAAUAUACGUGAAAUAUUCAACUAUGGAAAUUGAUUCAAUGACUAUGUUAUCUCUAUUUGAUUUUGUAAGACAAUUAAAUCAGUCUUUUUAUUUGCGUAUGACUAAUUUGAUCCCUACACAUUUUUGUCAGGGACCAAAAUAGAUCUUCAUUUUUACCAUUUAAUCUAAUACAAUUAAACUAUCAAAUUAAGGGGGUAAUUGAUUUGACUACUUGCUUCUUUUUGUUAUAAAUAUUGUUUUUAGUCUCAAUAUUUUCAUGCCAUUUUGGAAUUUAUAUGAAAACUUCGAAACUUCAAAAACUUCAAAAAAUAGGGCGCGUUAGGUGAUGUUUCCGGAUUACAUAAUCCGGAAACCCCCUAAACACCAUUUUUCAAGGUAAAACAGUUCGAAUUAUAUAAUCCGAACUGUAUCAGCACAAAUUCUAAACAUGUUUGUAACAUGGAUAGUCAUUUUAGGGACAAUAUUAAUCUUCCUAACUUUCAUCCUUCCGUUUUUGGGUCAUUAUUACCUGUUCUUAGUCAAAAAUCAAGUUUUCGGGCUACUUGAUGUGAUUGCUCCGAAACUUCCCUAGAAAAUCAGAAAUCCAAAAUUCAAUCGGUUAGACCCAUUUUUCAUUUUUUAAAAUUUUUCAUAUUCUAAGAAAAAUCCGAAAAAAUUUGCAUUAGUUUUAUUUGAUUUUUAGAAUUUUUUUGUGCUAUUUUUAUAUUUUUAUGAUUUUAUUUGACAGGUUUUAAGCAUUUUUUACUUAGUUUUUUUGUUGUUUUUAAAAGCAAAACUCAAAACUGUUAAAAUAUGAGAGAGUCUGAUGGCUGAUUAUACAUAAGAAUUGUCCGGAUUAUAUAAUUCGAAAUAGUAAACAUGAAUCCGGAUUUUAAAAUAUGGAAUGCACAAGGUCAUUUUUGGAAAAAUUACAGGGCGCGGGAGAAGGCCAUAAGGUGGGAAAAAUAAUAGUCAAUAGUUUAUCAUAAUAUUGGGAUAAUUCUAGGACUCCUGAGUGGGCAUAGACUGAGCUGGAUAAUCAUAUAUUAGGCUAAUAUCAACUAUACAAGUGAGAUUGACACCGCAUCUUCAGAUAAAACCUUACGGCAUUAGACAUAUGAGUCAUCUCACUUAUAUGUUUUUUCAAAAUAUACUCAUCCAUCCAAUGUAGAGUGGUAUCUCACACUUGACAACUCUUAAUCAAGUGUGCGACUAUUUGUGUAUGUAAUUAUCUGAUAUUGUCAAAUCAGGUUAAAUAGAGUCACAACAUGUUAAAUAGGUUAGUUUAAGUAGUUUCAUGAAUGGAGAUUUAAGUUCAUUUCUUUCAUGGGAAGAGAGAAAUGAAAAUAGAAGAAAAAGAAUGAAUAUGAAAAAGGAAUUUGAACAUGAGAGAAACGAUAAGGGAAAAUAUAUGUAAUGUGUUUUGACCAUGAGAGUAAAUGGAAUAUGCUGGGUUGUCGGUAAUUAUAUGAGUUUGUUGAAGGAUUUGAAGAUUUUUGGGUAACUACAUUACCAAAAUUUAGACUUAAUUAUAAAAAUAUCACAUCAUUUUAAAUGUAUAAUAAACAUGUAUUUUGUCAACUUAGCAUAACACAUUUUCAAAUAAUAAAGAUUGAAUAAAAAAAGAGCAUGAAAGAGAAUGAGAGAUCCAAAAACUAAAUUUCAAUAUAAGAAAAAAACAAAUGACAUUCAAACAUUAAUAAAAUUAUUCUUUAUAUUGUUGGGACCACAAAGGAUGUUUACACUAAGUUGAAUCAUCAUAUUAGGUUAAGAGCAAUCACACAAGUGAGAUCGACACUACAUAUUAACUUAAAAUGUGUAAUGGACAUGUAUUUUGUCAAUUCAGCAUAACAAAUCUACAAUUUUCUACUGUCAGAUCCCACCAAAGAUCAAAAGUUAAGUAAUUUAAAAUAAUAGAUGUUGAAUAAAAAAAUAGCAUCAAAACGAAUGACAUCCAAAAACUAAAAUUUAAAAAAUAAAUAAAUAAAAGAUAUUCAAAACUAACAAAACCACCCAUCAUAAUGUUUAGACUUCCGGGGGAGUCUAAACUGGGUUGUAUAAUCACAGUAGAGUAAAAUCAACCAUAAAAGUGAGAUUCACACCAUAGUUUUAUUCAAAAUCUAAAGGCAUUAGGUAUAUGGGUCAUUUCACUUAUAUUUUUCUCAUCAUCUACUUUUUUUAUCUAAUGUGAAGCUUUAAUUACAUAUGAGACAUUAGUAUCUCUCUCUGAAGUGUGCGACGACUCUGCAUCUGUAUGAUGGUGACAUGGUCAUAUAUAAGGUCAGAUUGAUGCAUAACAUGAUAAAAAAAAAGGCGGGUGUAUUUUAAAAAGAAAUUUUGACAUGAAAGAAAUGGUAAGGAAAAAAAUAAGGAGUGUGUAUUUUAACCAUGAGAGUAUAGGAAAUAGAGUGAGUUACUGGUAAUUUGUAGGUUUGUUGAAGAAUUUGGAGAUUUUGGGGUUUAUUUACCAAAAAAUUAGACUCAAUUAAAAAAUACACUUCAUUUUCAAAUUUCUACUAAGUAUAUAUUUUGUCAACUCAACAUAAUACAUCUUUUUUCCAUUUCAGAUUCCACCAAAGACAAAAGUCAAGGAAUUUGAAAUAGUGAAAGUUGAACAAAAAAAAAUGUAAGAGAGUGACAUCCAACAACUAAAAUUUAUGAUAAAGAAAAAUUAAACAAAUGACAUCCAAAAGCUGACAUAAAACUUCAUCCUAAUUUUGGAACCUUCGAGGGAUCAUAGUCUAAGUUUGAUCACCAUAUUAGACUAAGAAAAACCACACAUGUAUGACUAAUAUCAAAUCUUUAUCCUAAAUCUUAAGACAUCAGAUAUAUAUGUCAUCUCACUUAUAUGUUGUUUAAAGUUUACCAUAUAUCGCAUCCUAACAUAGAACUUUGACUCACACUAGACACACUAAUAUUUCUUAACCAAAUGGGCAACUAUUCGUGUUCGUAAUCACGUGACAUAGUAAAAUAAGGUCAAGCGGAGGAACACCAUGUUCCAGAAGGUUGGUUGGUGACUGUUUCAUGAAGAGAGUUUUAUAUUCCUUUCUUUUACGUGAAGACAAAAAGGAAAUCAGAAGGAAAAGUAACGGAUUUGAAAAAGGAAUUUGAACAUGAGAGAAGAUAAGGGAAAAAAUUGUGCGUUAUGUUCAUGAGAGUAUAGAGAGUAGUGUGAGUUAUCGGUGAUUUUAUGAGUUUGUUAAAGGAGUUUGAGAUUUUUGGGUAAUUAUUUUACUAAAAAAAUUGAGUCAGUUAAGAAAUGCCACAUAAUUUUAAAUGUCUAAUAAACAUGUAUUUUGUGAACUCAGCAUAACACAUAUGCAAUUUUCCAUUGCCACUUGCCGCCAAAGUCCAAAAGUUGAUGAAUUUAAAUUAAUAGAGGUUGAAUGAAAAAAAUUCAGAUGAAAAACAAUGACAUUUAAAAACUAAAUUUUAAGAUAAAAAAUGCAAACAAACGACAUCAAAAAAUUAAAAGACAAUUUAUUUGUGACUUUCGGGAGAUUCUGCAUCGAGUUUGAUAAUCACAUUAAACAAAGAGAACAAUACACGUGAGUUUAACAACACAUCUUCACCCCAAACCUUAUGAAAUUAGGUAUAUGAAUCAUAACACUUAUAUGUUACUCAACAUCAACUCUUACAUCCAAUGUGACUUUAACUCGCACUUGACACAUUAACAUUUCUUCCUCAUGUACGAGACUCUCUGCAUAUGAGAUCUACCACCAUAAACCAAUUCUGCUUCUCCACAGAGUCGAUCUGAGCUAUGAUACCAUUGUUGGGCCUUACGAGGGAGCCAACACUGGCAUGGAUUGACCCAUUGCACAAAGAACAACCAGACAAAUGAAAAUGAUAUCAAAUCUUUAAUUAAUAUUUUAAAUAUCACGAAAUUCUAGCCCGUGCUUGGCACGGGUUUCCAAGCUAGUUUUUCACAUUUCUUAAGAAAAGUUGUUAGUGCAAUUAAUAUGUCUUUUUUGUGUGUUAAUAUUACCAAGUUGUCCUUUGUUUGUAUGUGUAUUAAAUUUGACUUUUCAUAUUUCAAGACAAGUUAGUAGUAUUAAUUAGGGGUAUGUUUAGGAAAAAAAUUAUAAAUGCAUCUAGUAACUUGAAAAGAGGUUUACAUUUAGGAAAAAGAAUAAAGUCAAAUGGAGUAUUAUUUAGAGACGAAGAGAGUAAUAUAGUUUGAUGGGAAGAUGUAAAAUAAUUUUCAUUGAUUAUUAGUUAUUUAAAACAAUUUUCAUUAAAAAAAAAAGCCUUGAAUAUGUUUUUUAUCCUUAAAAAUAUUCUAAUCUUUUUGUUUUUAUCCCUCUAAUUUUUUUUUUCAAAGAUUAAUAAUGAAUGUUUUUUGUUCUGAUAGGUUUUGAUUGGUUCAACAAAAAGGAGAUGAAAGGAAAAGAAAUGGGAGGAAUUUCAAUUAUACACACAUACGAGCGUUCAAACAAGCGGUUUCCAUUUGUCUGUUUUUAUAUUGUGCUAAUGCGUGUAAAUUAUGAACAAUAGUUUUUAAGAAAUUGAUUUUGAUUACGCAUACAGACAAAUGAAAAUUAGAAAAAUAUCACUACAAAUCUGUGAGAAAGAACUAACAAAUGUUGUGAGCAACCCAAAUAUGCAAAACAAAAAAGUAAUUUAUAUUUGUUUUAGAAUUCAAUUUUGCUUUGCAAUUUCAAGAUUUAACAAUCACUAAAUAAUGUCUAUGUUAAAUAUUGUUUUCUACAUAUAUUAUUAAUGAAACUGAAUUUUUUUUUAAAAAGUUCUUGCACCAAUGGAGUUGAGUCUAAGAAACGGAGUUCGACCCUCACAACUUCGCGAAUCAAUGUUCAAACUAUGACGGAGAACGAUAUUCAUAUUCAGUAUCUGGCAUGUCUCAAAUCAAACUACACAUAUAUUAAUUUAGCUUCAAUUGAAUUGUAGCUUUAACAGUGGUAAUCUACUAGCUUGGUGGUGUAUGCUAAGAUACAAUUUAAACUCAAAGGAUCGCAAGUUUUGAUGAGGGCUGCAUUAUUAAAGAGUAAGGGGAUAAAACUGAAACUCAGAAGGAAAAAAAUUGUGAUUGCUUGUUUUACAAACUCAAAGUGAGAGAUUUUAUACGGGGUGUCAGUAUGAAAGGGUCCGGAAUUGAUUGAGUUUUUAAACGUAGAGCUUGUUCUAAUAGCAAUAUGAGGCAUGGUCUGGUACAGCAGUUUCUCAGUGCAGCCGGAUCGGUUUUGGCGCUGUCUGUUUUUCAAAAACUGUUGUGGGUAUGAAAAUGUGGUGUCGUCUGUUGUAUUUUCCUAUGAUGUUGUGGAAUCAGUUCGCCUAUUUGGUCGAGUUGAAGCUGCUGAGUUGGAAGCAACCUGCAUAAUUAUGCAUAAUUAUGCAGGUGGGGUGGCUUUUUAUUGUUCAGACUUUGUGGUAGUAGGAGACAUAUUUUUAUGGUUUUCUCAAUGUUGGUUGCUUUGGUGUUAAACCAAAGUAAAUUCUGCUUUAACAAUGUGAUGGUCUAUUUUUAGAUAAUCUUGUCAUACUUCUUUUUAUAUAUUUCGCUUUUUUAAAAAACACACACACACUAAACUUUAGUGCACUUCUAGGAUUAGAACUCGAUCCCUUUCAUCUAUCAGUAAGGUUUCUACAAUACAAGACAUUACUAGCUAUGGUAAUUGCAAGAUGAUAUUACUUGCAAAUAGAACAACAAAUACUGAUCUCAUAAAAAGAAAAGCAUGGAAUGACUGGAGUAACAAUAUAUACUUGUUUUAAUCAACAAACUAUCUGCUCCUUGUUACAUUUACUUAUAUUUCAAUGUUCUACAUUUCACAAUAACAAAGCUCAUUAAAUUGCAUGUAAGUAAAUUGAAAUAUGAGUGGUAAAUAUUUAUAUCAAAAUACUUUAUGAAGAAGAGGGAACUAGAUCAAUGAAUAAUAACAUUCAGACUACAAAUCUUAGCUAAGUAGAUCUCUUCAUCCUCAAGGCAGACGAAAAAAACUUCAUUCCCAUGUUUGUCAACUGUUUGUUUUGGUUGCCAGCAGAAGCAUCACAGUUUUUUUUUUUACACGACCCUUGAAGGAUCUGCCGUUAAUGCAGUAUCAGCAAAAAUGACAGAUUGAAGUUUCAACUAAAAGCAGAAUUGUGCAGCAUUUUGGAGGACCUCAAUCAACUCUUGGGGAAGUUCAGAAUCAUACAAACUUUCAUUGCAGCGGAAAACUGCACAGGGCUCUUGCUUUUUGGCGGCGUUGUGGGCUUAACUUGAUCAACCAACUGCCUUCAAAACUCUUAAUCAGAAUGUGGGAGCUUCUUGCAGAGGUCAGCAACAUCCAUUCAUUCCACAACAUAUCUAACACAAACAUAAUGAAAUAACAUUGGUGUCUCAAAUUCGCAUUAUGAAAUGCAAUGGCACCUUUCUAAAGAAUAGAUGUAUUUACACCUAGCUUGUAGCUUGAACAAUGAGUUUUUACUUUUUAUUGCUAACAUUAAGCUCAACAUCACAUUGCAUCCUUUCGUAAGAAACAAUGGCAAAUACAGGAACCCAAUUCUCACGAUAUUUACCAACACCACGAGAAUCAUAAUAUAGGUGGCUUGUGAGAAAGCAAUUGAUUUCUGCAGAGUGAAAUUUAAAUUAGUAACUAAUAUUCUAAGAAAUAUUACAGGAUUAGAUGAUACAGGGAAGAAAUAAAACUAGUCUACCUCUUCUCACAUUCUUCAUGGCAUUCAUCUAACAACCUCUCUACUACUAUAGUAGCAUUUUCUGGCUGAGUAUAAGAAAAAAAAAAUAAUUUUAUAAGAAAUUGACAUUUAAGAUUGACAUAAAACGAUUCAAAAUGAGUGACAACCACUGAAAAAAUCACCUUUCAAAGCAACAAAUCAUGUUGAUAGUACAGACAAAAUGUGGAUCUGGAAGCUUGACCUUCAUUAUAAUGUUCUUUGUCUUCUCAAUAAAACUUUGAUUCCAAGUCACACACUCUACUCCUUAAUUUGUCCAGUUUUAGAAGCUACUUCAAUGUACUUGAAGUGAAUAUCAUCGAAAUUGCAGUCAAUCAUCGAAACGAAGCCAUGAACCUUACUUAGAAAAUUAUCUUCCCAAAACUAAACAUUAUGUUUAUACAUUUAAGCACUCAAACAUCUAAAUUUCAGUGCUACAAAAGUCUUACCAAAAUUCUGACUCGAAACUAUAGAAAAGGAAAUUCUCAACUAAAUUUACCCUAAAGGAUCACCUAAAAUCAGUACUAAGAAAUUAUACUUAUUAAUCAACUCGCCCUGAACCAAGGUUCUAAUUAAAAAAAGCUUGGCUAGCAAUCAUUAAUGUAGUUAACGUCUUACAAAAAUUGCGUCAUCAAUGCUCUAAACACAGUGUCGUAAAAUCAAAUCAAAACAUUUCAUAGAAGAUAGAACUAUAAAAGGGACAUAUACCUUUGGAAAACAUUGAAAACCUCCACCCUUUACAUUUAGCAAAGCCAAGUAGAGGACUCUAUCAGGAACCACUGCUGCUAUCAUAAAUCCUGUUUCAAUUGGCAAACAUAAUUAACUUAAAUACAAACAAAUAAACUUCACCUAACCAAAUCUUAGAACAAACCAUCUGAAUUUUAAGUAAAUCAAAGGCUCACUAAAAAAGAAAAAAAAAGCACAUUCACAAAAUACUAACCCAUUUAGUGCCCAGAAACAUGAGCCUUUUUCCAACCUUAUCCAACAAAGUAAUUGCAUCCUUUGCCAUGAUCUUUGUUCUGCACCCAACAAUCAUUCACCAAUAUUCAAAUUUCCAUUUCACCUUUUCUAAAUCAUUCAAACUUAAUGCAGCACCAAAACUUCAGAUUGAUGACAUGUAUGAUGUUCAUACUUCAAAUACCGAUAUGACAUUGACCCAUGUAAUUACGUUCAAACACUUUCAUUUUAACAAAUUAUUAUCAAAAUUAACAAAUUAUCAUUCAAAAUAACGUAGCACCAACACUACAUAUUGGUGUCUGAUGUUCAGAUACUGAUAUGACACCAACCCUAUAAUUACAUUCAAAAACUUUUAUUUCUUCAAACUAUUAUCAAAAUUAAGCAAAGAGGAACCCAAACAAUAUACCAUUCAAAGAAAGAAUCUAAAACAAAUAAAUAAAAAAGACCAAUAAAAAUGGAGAAAACCUUGAUGAUCAGAGUUGCUAAUGGGCACGCAGCUCUGACCCACGCCCUCACUAUCAAAAUCGCAAUCCUCGAUACCACCACCGGACUCGUUGUCACCUCCUCCACUCCAAAAGACGUUCUCUUCAUCAUUAGGUACGUUUGUUACGGUUAAUCCCUUGUGUGUUGAAGGCAAUCCUAACCAUUCAAAUCAAUCUCCAGAAAAUCAUUAAAAUUAAAAAAAAAAAACAUGAUGAAGAAAAUUACCUGAAUUAGAACAUUUAUCCUUCUUAGGAUGAACAGUAAAAUAUCUUUCAUGUACUCUGGAUCUCUUCCUGCGGAAUGGGUUCCAAAGAUGUCGACAAUGAGAAUAAAAAUAAAGAUUUUUGAGCAGUUGAAAUCCAAACAUAAGAAGGGGAAAUUGAGAUCCUACAAGUAAAAUUGAUUUUUGCGAUGUUGAUUGUGGCAGAUAAGGGUAAACGUCUCUGCUUCUUAAUCCUCGGUAAACUGUAUUAUUGGAAUAUGAGCUAUCUUGUCCCAAUCCUCCCCUGUUCCCUCUUUGCAUCGUUCCUCUAAUGUUGGGCAACCCUCAAUUGCCAGAAGCUCAAGUGAAGUGAGGUGUCGAAUACCCUCCGGCAAGCAUCGCAAUCCUUCACAAUUCCAAAUCCUUAAAAUUCGAAGGGAUUGAAGACCUUCCCAAUUUUGCUCUGGUAAGGACUCCAAUUGAGAGAAACAAUAUACAAACAGAGAUAGAAGAGAAGUAAGGUUUUUGAACAUCCCCUCUGGGAAGGAUGUUAUUCCUUCACCGUCACUUAGGGCAAGCUGAGUAAGACCACAAAAGGUAGAGAUUGACCUCAGUAACUCAUUGUUACAUGGAUCGGCAACGAGGUCUUUAAGAGAUGGAAGACAUGGCAGUCCAAUUUUAGGGCAUUUCCAAAUAUCCAAACUAGAAAGACAAGGAAACAUCUCCCCUCUUUCAACUUUCAAUAAACCCUCUAUGUUUGGUAACUUAUAUAAUACGAGUUCCUCCAGAGAUGGGAAAAUCCUCACCUCCAUACCAUCCUGAGAUUCAUCAUCAUCCAAGUAUUUCAGAUUAUCCAUAUAAGAUAAUUCCAGUUUUUUUAGAGAUGGUAGUUUACCAAGUAACGGAAGCCGCACAAUCUUGUUGCAAUCCUCAAGUUUAAGAGAAAUUAAAUUACUAAGAAUAAUUAUCCAACUUGGUAACGAUAAUCCUUCAUAGUAAUUUAUUGUCAAGCAUUUGAGAUUUGAGUGAGGUUGAAGCUCUUCGAGUACUUGCUCAGCACUAAUUAUAGAUUCCUGUUGCGAUAUCCAUGACAAGCAUAAUUGAUGAAGGUCUUUUUUACCCAUCAAAUUAGCCGCUUCAGCUUCAGAUAAACUGCCAACAUUGUUUAAUCCUUCGAUACUCAGUUUUCCACCGAGUUUUAGAUCACGUAACUCUGUCAAACUAUUCCCUUUCUCUAAACUAACAAUGUACACACUUAAUGUUCUUAAACAAGUUAAUUUUCCAAUGUUAGGAAACAUACUAGACAAAGAUCGACAUUCUUCAAUGACUAUAUGUCUAAGAUUUUGUAAACAAGCCAAGCGUUUCGGAAGCCAGCUAAGUUUAUCACAGUAUUUUAUUUUCAAGAUUUCCAGCUUUUUUAGAUUGUAAAUUGAGUCAGGCAACUUUUUUAUGUCAAGAAAACGAAGUCCCAAAUACCUUAAAUGAAUUAAACUCCCCAGUGAUGGCAUCCGGAUAAAGGAUGCGCAUAAAACCCGGAGAGAAAGAUAUGCUGGGAAGUUAUCAUGUUUUUUUUGGUAAGAAUAACUCAACAAUGUUCUCAAGGAUUCAACUUUUUUGAAAGCAUUUUCAUCAAAGGAUAACACUUUGUAGUCAACAACAAUGUGGUGUGUGCUUUUUGACAAACUGGUCAUGUUUUUGUUCUCCAAAUGCAUACAUUCUUGCCCCAUUAUUGAUUGAGCGAGAUCAUGGACAAGAUCAUGCAUCUUGAAAGAAAUGUCUCCAGAAUAUUCAUCCAUCUUGCCAUCUUGAAAGAAUGAUUUUUGGUACAAUUCCUUCCAAACCAUGUUUCCAACAUCUUCAACGUCCAAAUUACCCAUAGAUGAAAUAAAUUCAUUAGCCAUCCAAAGUUGAAUCAAUUCUUCUUUCAGGAUUUUUCUAUCCUUGGGAAAUAUAGCGCAAAAAGAGAAACAUUGCUUUAGGGUUGGUGUUAAAUAAAAGUAACUCAACCUCAAAGCAAGCAAAAUAGAAUUUUCUUGCGAUAAAGCCCAAAGCUCACUGUCCUUAAUAUCAAGCCAUUCCUUUUCUUCAUUCCUUGAGCUCAUCAAACCUCCCAAUGCUUUUGCUGCAAGAGGCAAUCCAUUACAUUUCUUUACAAUCUCCUUUCCUAUUUCCAUAAGCUUUGUAUGCUCUUCUCUGUAAUAUCCAAAUGCAUAUUCUUUGAACAACAACCAACAUUCACUAUCAGAGAUACCAGACAAAGAGUGAGCUUGGCAUGUUCCCACGAUUGUUGCAACAACUUUAUCACGGGUGGACACUAAAAUGGAACUACCUUUUGAUCCACACGACAACACAGACUUCAAAUGAUUCCACUUAUCAUGUGUUAGUCCAGAUUCCAAUUGUUGGGUUUUGUUCCACAGAUCAUCCAAAACGAGCAAAUAUUUUUUACCUUGCAGCACUUCUUGCACCUUUCUUUCCAUUACAUCUAAUUCGAAGUCAGCACACUUCUCUCUUGUGAUAGAUUCUAUAAUGGAACAACAAAUCCUCUUGACAGAGAAAGUCUCAGAAACACAAACCCAAAUAUUUUUGUCAAAAUUGCCACUCACCCUAACAUCAUUGUAGACCAAUUGAACGAGAGUUGUUUUUCCAAUACCACCUAAACCAACAAUGGGAUAGACGGAAAGGAAGUCAGAGUCCCUCGCUUGGGUGAGAAGAAACUCAACAAUCUUUUCUUUAUCAUCUUCUCGUCCAAAUACUUUUGGUUCAACAAUAAUGGAGCUGGUUUGACGCCAUUCAGCUACUUCAUUUGAGCUUUCCUUAACAAUAGUACCCUCCCGUAGAAAAAACUUGUUCUUACUAUCAGCAAUAUCAUCCAAUCUCCUUGUAAUCUCUUUCAACCUGUUGCCGAUCUCAAGGCGAAACAUGAUGUUAUUUGGUUUAAAAGAGAUUGAUCCUCUAAGUUGACCAGACUUGAUCGAGCACUCAUCAAGGAUAUCAUCGAGCACAUAAACAACAUCUUUGAGUUGUUGUAGCCAUACCUUAAUAGAGCGGUCUGUGACUUGUUUCUUUUCAGCAUCUUCAAGAACAGCCUUGAUCAAAUCUAAGGUGGUUGAUAGUUUUUCAGCCUUUGACUUGAUACCAGAAAUGGUAGAAAAUUCAUUUUGAAGGAGAGACAUCAAAUUUUCAAACACAACUCCGAGCAAAGCGUUAGCCAUUUUUUGUGAAAACAAAAGAGUUGAAAAGAUAAGAAAAGAUGAGAAAUUUGUUUCGAUGGAAUGAGUGCUUAACUAAGCAGGAGACCUUUGAGAAUAAAUGCAAUGAGAGCAGCAAAUCAACAAGCAGGUGCUCAAUAAUUAUGAGCAAACAUUCACACGUAAACCACAAAUUUAUGCAACUUGCUUGCAAGGUUCCAUUUAUGAUUGGGUGUAACCCACAUUUUCAAUCAGAAAUUUAUUAGCGGGUCCAUGAUUGCUUUUAUUUGUCUCUUUGUUUUCACACUUGAACUACUUUAACUAAUAGAUGUGGCCGACAGAAUAAUGAUCUUUGGGAAAAGUUUAUGAAUCUAGUCCCUACACAUUUUAUUUACUCCCGUCUUUAACGUAGGCAAUUAUUGCUUUUUUCACAUUUUUUUAGUGUAGUUAAUGUAUCUAUUUUGUGUGUUAAUAUUACCAAAUUGUCAUUUGACUUUUUCAUAUUUCAAAACAAGUUAUUAGUAUUAAUUAGGGGUAUGUUUAGGAAAAAAUAAUACUCCCUCCGGUUCUUAAUAUAAGAAACAAUUGACUUUUUUGGUUCAUUGUUUAAGUGAUGUAUCUAGUCUAUAUUUUUAAUAAAAUACAUUAAUUAUUCUAUGAACCUAAAAAGUUAACUUUUUCUUAUAUUAAGGACCGGAGGUAUUAAAUGCAUCUAGUAAUUUGAAAGGGGGUUUACAUUUAGGAACAAAAAAAAAAGUCAAAUGAGGACUUAUAUAUAGGGACUGAGGGAGUAUUUAGGUACCGUUUGGUCAGAUUUUUUUUCGGUCUAAAAGCUACUUUAAAACAAAGUAAAAAUAAAGUUCUUUAAGAAAAAAGCUAAAGCUGUUUGGUUUCUUUAUUUUUUUUAGUUCUAUAGUUAUUUUUAAGUUAAAAGUUGUUUGACAAAAUAUUAUACAAAACUUUGAAUUUAUUAUUUUUUUGGUGGUGUCCGGGAUUCGAACCCGCGACCUUUCAUAUAUUUAUUCAUUGUCUAUAUCAACUGAGUUAAGUUAUAGAAUAUUUUGUUUUUUCAUUUCCAAUUAUACUGUAUAACAAAUUUUGUUAUAAGAAUAUCAUAUUUUUGGUGUCAUUUAAAAAGAUAAGAAUUUAUAUUAUAUGAUAUUAUAUUUGAUUUUUUUUUUGAAUAAGAUAUUACUCCCUCCAUUCUUUUUCUUUUGAUGUUUUAGAACUUCAACUAUAUUCCAAAACAUUUGAUGUUUUAGUGAAUUUAUUAUUGUUUUCUCAAGUUUACCCUUGUUGGAAAACACAAUAAACUAUUAAAGUAGUUGUGACCUUUGGUUUAUCACAUGUGAAUUUAAUGAUAAAUAAGGACAUUUAAGUAAAAAACACACAAAUGUUUAUAUACUUUAAUUACUCCUUAAAACUUGUGUCAAGAGCUAAAACAUCAAAAGAAAAGGAAUGGAGGGAGUAUAUUUGUUACAUUAUUGGUGUCAUUGAAAAAGAUAUGUUUAGUUUUUUUAAUAAGAAAAAGAUAUGCAUAAUUUGUUACAAUAUAAAUGUGUAAAAUAUAUAUAAGUAUAAUUUUUUUAGGCAUCUAUACUAGUACUUUUAAUUAAAAUCAAAAUUUUAUAAAAAUAAGGCUAAAAUAUGAUUUUAAUCCCUGCAAAUAUGCCUCGUUUUGGUUUUAGUCCCUGGUAAAAAAAAAUUUGUUUUUGGUCCCUGCAAAUUUUUUUGUUUUUGAAAAUAGUCCCUUACCCCAAUUUUGUGAUGAUUUGCAUACGUGGCACAUUAUAACUGAACCAAUUUUCUAGUUUUUGGUCCCUGCAAAAUAUUUUGUUUUUAAAAAAGGUCCCUGCAAAAUUUUUUGUUUUUGAAAAUAGCCCGACCAAAAACAAAAUUUUUCUUUACCAGGGACUAAAACCAAAACGAGGCAUAUUUGCAGGGACUAAAACCAUAUUUUAGCCUAAAAAUAAUGAUUGUAUGCAUUAAGCAACACUGAAAAAAUUAUACGCAUUAGCAUAACAAAAAAAAACAGACAUACAAACAUAAAAUAUUACUCUAAACGCUAAUGUGUGUGUGUAUUUGUGAGGUUGAAGAAAGGGAAUAAAAAUAUUUGGUGUGAUUCAAUAACAACAUGAAUAGAAAUAUUUGUGAGGUUGUGAUAAUUAAACGAUAUUAAAAUUAAGGGUUAAUAGGCUUUUACCCCCUGCCAUUUGGGCGACAUUUGGUUUACCCCCCUGCAAAAAAAAAACUUGUAGAUUCCCACUUGUAAUAUGAAGAUUCCUUGGUUUACCCCCCAAAGCCAAUAGUCAGCGUCUGACUGGAUAAAAAAGGUGACGUGGCGUGCUGAGUAGGUAUUUUUUGUUUUUAUGUUUUUUUUUUAAUUUACAACUAGAUUAUUAAAAUUUAAUUUCCCCCAAAAUUGAAAAAAUCCAAAAGUCCAAACAUUUUGUUUAUUGGUAUACCCCCCUCUCAUUUCCCCCAAAACUUAAAACCUAAUUUCUCCAAUUGAGAAGAAGAAACGGACGAAGAAGAGAAACAGACGAAGAACAAAGGGACGGAUUCAGAAUCGAAGAGUAACAACUGGGGUUAGGGUUUCGAUUCGAAGCAAGAUUUCUGCGAUUCGAAGCAAGGUUUCUGCGUUUUAGCGAUUUUGAAGCAAGAAUACUGCGAAUCUAGGAAGCUGCGAUUUUGAAGAAAGAGGGUUUCGAUUUACGUUAUUGCGAAUCUGGACACGAACGGAGAAAGAGUAAGCGAAGUGAACGGGAAGGUUGGAGACGAAGCUUGUGGUAAGUUUACUGAUUCUCUCUUUCUCUUUAUGCAUGCGUGUCUCUGUGUUGUUAGUAUUUGUAGAUGGUAAAGAAAGGGAAAAUUGUAUGUUGUGGUCCCAAAAGUCUGAUCCUAGAUUCCAUUAUUGUCUGUUUUCCAUGUGCAAAAGUUCCAUUUUUAGGGAUUAUUUAUUGAAGCUUUUUGUUUUGUGUGAGUUGUUGAUAUUAACCUGGUUUAAACCAAUGGGCUGCAGACACGUGUGGUUCUGAUUUUGAAUAAAAAAUUGUUUUUUUUUUUACCACAGAUAAUGGUUUUGUUUGAUGUUGUUUUCCAUCAUGGUGGGGAGUUUGUUAUGGAUAAGCGUAUUUUUUAUAGAGGUGGUGUACAAACUGUUGUGUCUGGUCUUGAAAGUAACAACUGGGGUGUGUGUGAUAUUCAGAAUACUGUGGCUUCUUGGGGAUAUGAGAAGAAUAAGUUUAGGGUGUGGAGUCAAAUUGAAGUGAUUUUUGAAGAUUUUUUUCAAAUCAAUGAGGACCAUAUUAAUGAGGAGGUUUCUGGGUAUUCAGUUGCUAACAAAGUAGAUGCACAUAUCUUUGUUGAGCACAAUGUGUUGGAUAUAAGUGUCAAAGUAGAUGUACCUAGAUUUUUUGAUUUGGAUGUAGGGUAUGAUGAGGAAGAUGUUAUGGUUAGCACUGAUGAUGAUAGUGGUAAAUUUGUUGGGUUUGAUGAUAGUGAGGAUGAAAGAACCACUGCACUUGAAGAUGGGUUUGAAGAUGUUGAAGUUGAAGCACCUACUAAUGGUACCAACAGAGUCACAGUUAACAACAAAACAUUAAGGAUCAAGAAGUGUGGUUCCAAAACACCUAAGAAAAAAUCUCCUAAGAAAAACAAUAGUGGCAGGAUGAAUGUGAUUGCACCAGUGUCUCUUUUGAAGAAUGGGAAAGGGAAGUAUGUUGUAGAUGAAGAAAUAGAUGGAGAUUACCUUAGUGAAGAGUUGGGUAGCUCAGACCCUGAUGACUCAAAUGAUGACACAAUUAAAUAUGACCAGUUUAGGAUGCCACAAUUAAAUAAGGAUUUUAAGUUCAAGAUAGGUAUGGAAUUUAAUACUCUGGUAGAGUUUAAAGAAGCAAUUAUUGAGUGGAACGUAUUAAAUGGUUACCAAAUUAAAAUGCCAAAAAAUGAAAGUUACAGGGUAAGGGUGGAGUGUAGGGACCAAUGUGGAUAUAAGGUUUUAUGUUCAAAGGUGGGUGACAGAAGGACUUUUCAAAUAAAGACAUUAGAGGGGCCCCACACUUGUGCACCAGUGUUGGAAAAUAAAAGUGCCAAUUCAAGAUGGGUUGCUAAGAAAGUUGUGCCAAAAAUGCAAGUCACCAAAAAGAUGAGUGUACAAGAGGUCUUUAAUGAAAUGGCUGUUAAUUAUGGUGUGGGUAUUACCAUGGACAGAGCAUGGAGAGCAAGGAAGAUUGCAAAGAGCAUAAUUGAGGGUGAUGCAGAUAAGCAGUAUGCAAUGAUAAGGAGGUAUGCAGCUGAGUUGAAGAGAGUGUGUAGGGACAAUAAUGUGAAAAUAAAUGUUGCUGGUCCUUCUGCAACUAUUCAACCAAGGUUUGGGUCUUUUUAUUUCUGUUUUGAUGGGUGUAAGAAAGGGUUCAUAUCUGCUUGCAGACCCUUUGUUGGAGUGGAUGGCUGCCACUUGAAAACAAGAUAUGGGGGGCAACUGUUGAUUGCUGUAGGAAGAGACCCAAAUGACCAGUAUUUUCCACUAGCUUUUGGGGUAGUUGAAACUGAGUGCAAGGAAAGUUGGAAAUGGUUCAUACAGUUGCUGAUGGAAGAUAUAGGUCAAGAUAAGAGAUAUGUGUUCAUAUCAGAUCAACAAAAGGUAUGUUUAGAUCUAUUCAUGUUUUAUCUAUACAUAUAUGUAUUCAAUGUUUCAGAUCUGAUGAGAUCUAUAUUGAUUUACUAUUAUGCAGGGGUUGCUGUCAGUUUUUGAUGAGAUGUUUGAUACUAUUGAUCAUAGAUUGUGCCUUAGACAUUUGUAUGCUAAUUUCAAGAAGAAGUUUGGAGGAGGCAGUCAAAUAAGAGAUUUGAUGAUGGGAGCUGCAAAGGCCACUUACUAUCAAGGAUGGUUGGAAAAGAUGAAUGAACUGAAGAAGAUAGAUCUGGGAGCUUGGGAAUGGUUAAUGGCUGUAGAACCAAAAAAAUGGUGUAAGCAUGCUUUACCCUUUUAUUCUAAGUGUGAUGUACUGAUGAAUNACAUAUCUGAAUCCUUAAAUGCCACAAUAUUAUCUGCUAGAGAUCAACCUAUUAUUAGUAUGGCUGAGUGGAUUAGACAUUAUCUAAUGAGAAGAAUGACAACAUCUGCCACUAAACUUCAAAAGUGGCAACAUAAUGUGAUGCCUAUGCCUAGGAAAAGAUUAGAUAAAGAGAUAACAUUAGCUGCUCAUUGGAGAUCAACUUGGUCUGGAAUAGGUGAACAAUUUCAGGUUAUGCAUACAUAUAACCGUCAGCAAUUUAUUGUUGACAUUGCAAAAAGGAGUUGCAGCUGUAACUUUUGGGAGAUAGUGGGAAUACCUUGCAGACAUGCUGUUUCUGCACUUGGUAAAAGGAAGCAAAGGCCUGAAAUGUUUGUUGAUGAUUACUACUCUAGGACUAAGUAUGCCUUGUGUUAUAGUUUUGCAAUUAGUCCUAUUAAUGGUAUGGAUAUGUGGCCUGAGGUAGAAGCUCCUGAACUUUUACCUCCAAACUAUAAGAAUGGACCAGGAAGGCCUAGAAAGCUUAGGAUUAGAGAGUUUGAUGAAAAUGGAUCUAGAAUGAGGAGGCAAGGGGUGGCAUAUAGAUGCACAAAAUGUGAUCAAUUUGGACACAAUCAAAGGAGAUGCAAGAGUGAUGUUCAGAAUCCAGAGGCUGCAAAAAGGAAGGUAUGAUGAUUAUGUACAAAAUGUGAUUAAUUAUACUCUCUGAUUAUGUACAAAAUCCUAACUUAUGCCUUUUUAUGUUUGUUAAUGUUGUAGAGGAAAACACCUAGAAGGAAGAACACUUCAACUGCUACUGAACCAAUGCAGACUGACCCAAUGCAAGCUGAAGUUGCAGCUGCUACUGAACCAAUGCAAGCUGAAGUUGAAGCUGGUACUGAACCAAUGCAAACUGAACCAAUUCAGACUGACCCAAUGCAGGCUGAAGUUGCAGCUGGUACUAAACCAAUGCAAGCUGAAGUUGAAGCUGGUACUGAACCAAUGCAGCCUGAAGUUGAAGCUGGUACACAACCAAUGCACACUGCAUCUACUCAAGAUCCACCAAGGCACACCACAAAAAUUGUAAAAGUGAAAAACUCUGAAGCUCCUUUCAAGAUACAAAAAGUAGUCACCUCUGAAGCUGCAAAUGCUUUACCAGAAAAAAUUGUUACAGAAUUUUAUGAAGCCCUUCCUGAAUCACAACUUGAAACUAGCCUUGGGCCAGAUGUGUUUGAUGACCUGGAUGACAGUGUAUUGGCAGCCAUCACUGAUCAAAUGUUUGAAGCAGCAGAAAAAGAAUUUAAUGUUGUGAAUGUUGUGAAGAGUAGGAAUGAACAGAAAAAGAAAACAUUGGGGUUGAAGAAAUCUGUAAAAGCUGGUAGGAAGAGUUCCAGGUUGAUGAAAUUGAAGACCAAGGCAAUCAAAGGUGCUGGCUCCAGUAUGGAUCAACCUAUGGUCCUUGAUGAGUCUGAAGAGGGCACUUUGACUCAGGAGGAUCAUGGUCUGAUUAAGAGUGGGACAUGUUUGUCUGUGCUAAGAGGCUUACCAAAAUUGGUUAUGAGAUCCUCCAAGCCUAAUUGAAGAAGCACAUAUUCAUUCUAGGCCUCUGUUAGGUUCCUGCUUGUUAAUGUUUUUGUUUAAGUUUUUUGAUGUAAUGACUUAUGCACUUUAAGUGCUUUUAGUUAAUGUAAUGACUUAUCCACUUUAAGUGCUUUUGGUUGAUGAAUCUGAUUAUGCACUUUAAGUGCUUUUGGUUAAUGUAAUGACUUAUGCACUUUAAGUGCUUUUGGUUGAUGAAUAUGAUUAUGCACUUUAUGCACUUUAAGUGCUUUUGGUUAAUGUAAUGACUUAUGCACUUUAAGUGCUUUAUUGCUUAUGUUAUGGCAUGUUUAGAAUGAUGAAAAAAUUACUUCAAACAUUUUUCAUUAAUAUCUAAAGGAGUUACAUUUUUCAUUUUUCAUUAAUAUCAAAAGCAGAAAUGUUAACAUAAGUCUUACUACAUAAUCAGAACAUUACAAUGACUUAGAGAACAAUUACAUUAACUUGAAAACAACUGAGAACACAAUCCAAGACACAGCUAGCGCAACAAUGACGCCAAAAUUUUUCUUCUUCUCAGCAUCAAGCUUCAUUUUGAGUUUCUCAUGCUUCUUUGCACUUAUUUGAGUUCCAUGUUCUUUGCCAAACUCUUUCCCAAACUCUUUCCCAAAGUCUUUGCCAAAUUGUGUCAAAAACUCCAUUGUCAUUGCACAAUUGCUGCAACCAGCUUCAGACUUUAAAAUAGAAGAACAACCUGGUUCACAGUACUUUCCACAUUUUUUAGGAACUUCAUCGAGUUCAUCAUCCCAAAUGAACAGCUCACAACUAUACUCAGCCUGCAAUAAGUUUCGGCUUACAAAUUUAGCAACUAUUUCAAAACUACAUACGUUUGGAAAAUUUGAAACAAAAAAUUUACAUCAAAAUAAAAAAUUCACUUACUCCAGAAAAUCGGCAUCUCCAAAACUUUCUCUUGGGGUUUUCAUUUGUGUUUGAAAUCCACAUUGUUAUCAUGAUUUUCGGGUGUCAAGCCAUUAAUUAGGCUUGAACCUUUCAAUCUUUGAUAUUCUCUAUUUUUUCUUGGGAAGGGCAAAAUUGAGAAAAAAAACCCUUAGAGUCUAAGUUCGGGGGUUGCUUUCACUACGGGAAGGUGUUAGGCACCCGCAAUGAUUAUAGAACCUUUUUCCUAGUUUUAUGUCUACGCUUUACUUUUAUUGCCUACUUAUUGAAAAAAGAAGUUUUAUUUGAGUGAAGAAUGGGGGAGAGAAGAUGAUUGAGAUUUUAUUUUUAUUUGGCUUGGAAGAGUUUUGACUCCUUGCCUACGUACCCUUUUAAGGGAUCAAAACCAAACGUAGUUCAUUCUCAAAAAUUGUUUUCUUUGUUUUUAUUGGUUGAUUUUAAGUUUGAAAAAAAGGAAUUUUGAAGAAUGGAGAUGAGAGGCCUCAAGGGCAUGAGAUUUGGAAAAUGUGAGGUGGAAUUAGUUAUUUUGCAAAACAAAGUCUAAGUAUGAUUAAAAUUCAUUAAGAUUUUUAUUUAAGAAAAUAAAAGGAAAAUGAGGAGUUUUGACUCCUAUUUUUUUGGAAAAAGGUUUUCAAGUGAGGUUAUUCACAUUUUUUGGGAAAAAUGAUUUUUGUCUAAGCAUUAUAAAACCUAAGCAUACAUCUAAACAUACAUUCCCUAAUCAUGCAUCUAGAAUAUCCAUGUGGGGUGUGUGCAUGUGUCGGUGUACAUCACUUAUAGUGUCCAUAGUCAUUUACAUUGAGUCCUAGAUACAUGCUAUGGUCUUGCAAGAAUGUAAACUAAACUAAACUAACUAAAUUUAGUACAAACCAAUUGGCAUAGAAAUGAAUACAAAAAGAAAACCUAAACUAGGAGCAAUGAGGGUACAAAGAUUAGGUGCUUAUGGAAUGAAUGAGAUAUGAAGCAUAAGAGUUAGUAACACAAGUACAAAAUGAUAAUAAUAAAAAAAAAAGAUGCAAGCAAUAUAGAAUUGAAUAGCACAAGAGAAAGAAAAUAAUGCAAUGAAACAAAGUAGUAAAAAAUACACCUAGAAUUUAGGUAUAACACUCAUACAUGCAUAUGACCUAUAAUUCCCUCAUUAUAGCCAUUUUUGAAAGGUUUGAAUUUAAGCUACAAUGUGAGGAUCAUAAGAGUACACACAAGCCAAGCAUUAUAUCAUAUUCCUAGAGAUAUUUCCACACAUUAUUUCACAUGCAAAAAUAUCACAAUAUGUAACAAUGCAUCAAGAACAUAUAUGGAAUUUAAUGAGCAAGAAUUAAAAGAACAAAGUAAAGAAAAUGAAUGCAAAAAUAAGCAAAUAAAUUCUAAUACUUAGAGGAAAAAUUAAAAUGAUAGGGAAAUAUUUUUAGAAAUUUUUUUAGAAGCAUAAAACACCAAGAAAGUGUAAAAAAGGAUUUAAAACACAAUUAAAAAGCAAUUAAAAAGAGGCUCAGCAGGAUUUAAUCUUGACCGCUGGAUGAAUCCAGAGGUCCAGAUCUAACUCCCAAGAUCACAUCACAGCCACUGGAUCAAAGAUCCAAGGGUCCAAAAAAAAAGCACAAAAGAUAGUGUAAAAUGCAGGAAGCACAGUGACCGUUAGAUCAAAGAUCUAACGGUUCAAACAGAAGAUAUAGCAUAUUCCACACAAAAAAUCACACACAAGAUUCAAAAUCAAACACACAGCAGCCAUCAGAUCUUGGAACAAACCGGAUCUGAUGGUUCACAGAGCGAGGGAACACAACAAGAGCACGCACGUGCGCGCGUGGGAACGGAGGGAGUAUAAAAAGGAAUUUCACACAAAAAAUCACAUAAACUUCUUCUCCUUCUCUCUCUAAGUCACACUUAGAGAGAGAAGCUCUCCCUUCUCUCUAAAAAAACUCGCUGGCGAAGGUGGAGGAGGUGGUGGUUCAGGCGCGGCGGCCUGCCGGUUUCCGGCGGCGGCGCCCCCGUGCCGUAAAAUUCAAACUACUUUUUUUCAAAAAUUUUACAUCAAAAGUUCCGUCACCACCUCCUCUACACAAAUCCGGCGUUAGUUUUAGCGAGAACGGAGCGAUUCGGACUAGAUCUACGUUUUUACUUUGAAAAUCUUUUUCACACUUUUCGCAAAAAAAAACUACGGAUCUAGAUAUCCUUUUCUCUAUAGAGUCCGAAUCCGGCCUCAAAAUUCUCAAAAUCCGAACACAAAAGCCUAGAUCUACUAAUUUUUAUCCGUAACAAACUUUUUCACACUUUUUCAAGCAAGAAAUGCGCGGAAAUGACUUAGAAAGAAAGGAGAAACGCGUUACCUCUGUCGUAGAACGGAGAAAAAAGAUAUUCAGAAAACUUCGAAUCUCUCCUCUUCUCUUUCGCGCGCGCGCUAUAUCCUCCGUUGGUGUUGUUUUUGCUCGAAAAUCCGGUACGAUCUUGGUGUUGAUGUGAUGAUCCGCGGUGGUUUUGAGUGAAUCCGGUUCGGAUUUGUUGAUUUUGUGGUGAGGUGUUCUUGGUGUUCUUCCUCUUUUUCCUGAGUUUUUUUUCUGUUUUGAUUCUGUUAUGGAUGAGAGAGAGAAAAAGAUUCUGUUUGAGAGUGAUUGUGAUUGAUUCUGAUUUUUCUGACUCAUUGAUGGAUCUGACACAUUUACUAUUUAUAGCCUGCCAUGUGUAUCUGAGACCCAAUGGAAAAUUGACACCUGGACUGUUUUGGACUUAAGGACUAAUCUGCAAAAAAGUUAAUAUGAGGACUAAUCUGCAAUAAAAAAAAGAUUAAAAAAAUGCAAUUAAAAAAAAGAGUAUUGGACAAAAAUGCAAUUUUGGGAUCUGUUUGAGUACUAAAAAUGCCAUUAAAAUAAAAUUGGUAAAUUGGACAAAAAUGACAGGAAAAGACCAAAAUGCCCCUAGGGACUAAAAUGACCCAACCUGACUCAGAUGCAGUUUUGAAAUGAUUUUAAAAAAGAGAUUCAACAAUGAUUUGUACAGACAAGUUAGAAAGACUCAGAGACAGUUACAGGGACUAAAAUGGGUUCCGCUGCAGGAAAUGACCAAAAUACCCUUUUGUAUGAUUUUUGAAAAUAAAAUGCAAGAAAAGUAAUGCAAUGAUUCAGAGAAUUUUCAAAUGACUUGUAAUGCAAGAAAGACACUUUGGAUAGUUUUAUGCAAGAAAAUCAUGAUUGAACAUACUUUGAGACAGAGACAGUAAAAUAUGCAGAUGAAAAGAGAGUAAAGAUUCAGAGUGAAACAACAGUAAUUUGACAAUUAUAAGUAGUAGAAAAUAAAUUUGAAUGAGUAUUUUUAGGUCCAAAAUCAGGGUAUAACACACAUCUUCAUAACCUUCUCACAACCGCAUAUUGGGGGUCGAUUUCCAACAUUGUUACUAAUUGACGAAGUUCUGCUUCCACCCAUUAUAAACCCUAAGGUCCCACUGACAGUUGUCGUUUAAUCCUGAAUAGUCUUUGACUUUUCAAAAGGAAAUUUCGGCAGUAAGGUAUUUUAAAAUACCUCAUUUAGUUUGGUUUCUUAGCCCACAUUUUCAUUAUCACUUUAUUUUUAUUUUUAUUUUUUUUUAGUUAUUUUCUUUAAUUAUUUUUUUAAUAAGUCCAAAAUUGUCAAAAGAGCCGUGGUCCAAAGAUUCUUCACGCCACAAUUCCACAAUUCCAGGCAAAUUUACUCAGGUCUACUCUUUCUUUCCCAAUUUACCAGAAACGUGUUUCAUCCCUUUUAAUUCCAUUCAAGCACCAUUCAUUCCUAUUAAACAACAUUUCCUUUUGUUAUCAACCUUGAGCCUUUAAAUAGGAGUAAAAAUCAGAGAAGAAGGGGGACACGAUUCACACAACCUGAAAAGAGAAAAGAAAACCAGUAAUCACAAAUCAUCAAAACCUCUCUCAAACCCUCAUCACACACCAUCAUCGAAUCAUCAUCACAACAAUUCCAACCAACACAUCAAUUUUCCAGCCAUCAGUCACAAUUCCAAAACCCACACAAAAUCCUCACAACCGAUCCAACAAUUUUCCAAAGCCCUCAAUAGAAACCGACACAAAAACAUCACAGAAUACCAGCAUCAAAGGAACAACGCCGUACAUCAACCGAAACAGCCAUCACAGAAUUGACCAGAGAAUCCGAAUCGAAAUCAAAAGGUAGUAUUUCAUUAACUUUUAGAUCUAGGCUCGUAUAUUCACUGUUUGAGAUUUGUGAGUUUAGAAUCGAGUAGAGGAGAAGAGAACAAGUAGAAGGAACCAAAAAAAUCAAAAAAAUAAGUUGUUAGGGUUCCGGCGCGGUGGCGCCGCCCCACAGGCUGGCCAACCGCCACCGGAACCCUUUCGGGUUUUCGAUCCACCGGGAAGCGCAUUUUUGCCUAGGCCGCCCUUUCGGGUUUUCGACCUACCACGUUGUUCCUUUCAUAUAUCUAGGCGAAGUAUUUCUUGACUAUAUCGACAUUCACAGGAUUUGGAAGUUCAACACCAUCCAUGUGUGUAACAAUUAAAGCACCACCGGAGAAGGCCUUCUUGACAACAUAAGGACCUUCAUAGUUAGGCGUCCACUUGCCCCUUGGGUCGGGUUGCUGGCUUAUCCUCCUUUUCAAAACAAGUUCUCCUACCUUGAAUUCUCGAGGAUGGACUUUCUUGUCAAAGGCAGUCUUCAUUCUUGCUUGAUAUGACUGUCCACGAGCCAUGGCAUCCAUACGUUUUUCCUCAAUCAAAUUCAACUGAUCAUACCGGCUUUGGCACCAUUCAGCCUCGGAUAACUUUGAUUCCAUGAUCACACGGAGAGAUGGGAUCUCCACUUCCAAAGGAAGAACCGCUUCCAUACCAUAUACAAGAGAGAAAGGGGUUGCCCCGGUUGAACUGCGCACUGUAGUACGGUAACCAUGCAGAGCAUAGGGUAACAUCUCAUGCCAGUCCUUAUAAGUAGUAACCAUCUUCUGAACAAUCUUCUUGAUAUUCUUGUUGGCGGCCUCAACUGCACCAUUCAUCUGAGGUCUAUAAGGAGAAGAGUUAUGAUGCUCAAUUUUGAAUUCUUCACAAAGAGCUUGCACCACAUUGCUGUUUAGGUUGGUACCAUUGUCGGUAAUGAUCUUACUGGGAACACCAUAUCGACAGAUGAUGUUAUUCUUGAUGAACUUGGCUACCACUUGCUUGGUCACAUUGGUAUAAGAUGCCGCUUCAACCCAUUUAGUGAAGUAGUCAAUUGCCACUAAGAUGAAACGAUGACCAUUUGAAGCCUUCGGUUCAAUUCUUCCAAUCAUAUCGAUGCCCCACAUUGAAAACGGCCAUGGGGAUGACAUAACAUUGAGAGCGUGCGGAGGCACGUGAAUCUUAUCAGCAUAGAUUUGACAUUUGUGGCACUUUCUGGCGUGCUGGUAGCAAUCAUGCUCCAUGGUCAUCCAGUAGUAACCUGCUCGCAACAACUUCCUUGACAUAGUAUGCCCUGUAGCAUGGGUCCCGAAGGUACCGUCAUGUACGUCAUGCAUUAACUGUUCCGCUUCAUGUUCAUCAACACAUCUUAACAAUACCAUGUCAUAGUUUCUUUUGUACAGAAUAUCUCCAUCCAAAAGGAAUCUACUGGCCAAUCUUCUUAGGGUCUUCUUGUCUUGGUUGGAAGCACCUGACGGAUACUCACGGCUCAGCAAGAACUGCUUGAUAUCGUAAUACCAGGGUUUAUAGUCAACCAUAUUUUCACCGGCCUGAUCGAUCACAUCCCCAAUAGCAAACACAUGCGAAGGUCUUUCAAGGCGUUGCACUUUGAUUAUUGGCACAUCAUUCCAAUGGUUUACUCGAAACAUGGAGGAUAGAGUAGCAAGAGCAUCAACCAUUUGGUUCUCAUCACGAGGGAUAUGGUGCAACUCAACCUUUGUAAAAUAUGUCAGCAAACGUCUUGCGUAAUCACGGUAAGGAAUCAGAUUGGCAUGGUGGGUCUCCCAUUCACCCUUUAUCUGAUUGAUGACGAGUACCGAAUCUCCAUAAAUGUCGAGGUGUUUGAUUCUCAUGUCAAUCGCUUCCUCGAUCCCAAAGAUACAUGCUUCAUACUCAGCCAUAUUGUUUGUACAUUCGAACAGAAUCCGGGCGGUAAAAGGAAUGUGAUGCCCCUGUGGGGAUACAAUGACUGCCCCAAUUCCUUUGCCAUAAGCAUUGACAGCACCAUCAAAGACUAAUCCUCACUUGCUAUUGGGAUCUGGUCCUUCACCAAUCAAUGGUUCUUCGCAGUCUUUUGAUUUCAAAUACAUGAUCUCUUCAUCGGGGAAAUCAAACUCAAUUGGUUGGUAAUCAUCGAGAGGUUGGUAGGCGAGAUUAUCGGCAAGGAUGCUACCUUUGAUUGCCUUUUGAGUUUUGAACACAAUAUCAUAUUCAGACAAAAGCAUCUGCCAGAGUGCAAUCUUCCCAGUAACAACAGCUUUCUCAAAGAUAUACUUGAUAGGAUCCAUCCUGGAUAUCAACCAAGUUGUAUGAUUCACCAAAUAAUGACGCAGGCGUUUGGCAGCCCAGGCUAGAGCACAACAAGUCUUCUCAAGCAUUGUAUACCGAGUUUCACAGUCGGUGAACUUCUUGCUCAGAUAGUAGAUAGCAUGUUCUUUCUUUCCAGUCUCAUCUUAUUGACCAAGCACGCAUCCCAUGGAUUCAUCAAACACUGACAAAUACAAAAUCAAAGGCCUUCCUUCCACGGAUGAGACAAGGAUAGGUGGUUCCAGCAGGUAAUUCUUGAUGCUAUCAAAAGCUUCCUGGCAUUCAUCGUUCCAUACAAUAGGCUGAUUCUUGCUCAAGCAGUCGAGUGAUCUCAUACGGUAUAUCAUCAUCCUCUUCAUCUUCGGCUUCAUACACCGGGAAUUCAAAAUUUGGAGGAACUGUAUGAUUACUGUGUUCAACGGGUUUAUUAUGGUUCAAACUGCAUAGAAUGGUUGAAUGAUUUUAGAAAAGGGUUUUUUUUUUCUUUCAUGCAGAUCUUUGAAAUUAAUAAGAAAAAUAAAGAUGUUUUGGUUUUUUCUGGUAUUACCAUUAUUUCCAAGAAAAAAAAAAGAAAAAAAAAAUCACUAAAAAAUAAAAGUCGUGAAAGAAACGACGAUUUUUAUUGAUAACGGCGAUGCCGAAACAAACACGCCCUUCCAGAAAUAUCACUUUCGCUUCGGACAGAGCGAGAGGAUGGUUAUUUUGAAAAACAAAACACUUAAGCAACAAGACACAUUAUUCGGAAACAUGCAUGAUUGAAUGAAUGUUGAUGGCGUCCCAAUUUCUCGCAAUGCCUCCUGGUAUAACAAACAUAGGCCUAGGACUACAUCCAGUCGCCUCUUCAGUAAUUGCAUUGACAAACUCAGCACUGUAGAAGAUUCCUGUGGUAUUGUACUUGUAAGGAAUAGCCUUUGCUGAAGUAUAAGGUACCGGUCCGGGCAGCCUUAUCACUAGAGGCUCAACAUUCUCUUUUGAAGGCACGCUCUUGACGGGCGGAUCAUGAAAGACUGGCACAAUCACAUAAACAUCGUUGACAGUCAAAUAAUUGUCGUUCAUCAAGCUCUGGAUGUCAUUUUGAACAGCAUAGCAACCCAAAGGAUUACGAAAGCAAUCUGGGCAAUUGGCAUGAUCACGGUUAAACAGAGAAGCUUUGCAUAGCUUGAUGUGUAGUGGUACCAGAGGAGUUGCAACAUUACGGACAUCAAGUCUGGGAGCUUCCUCAUACACCUCAAUCAUGUUCACAGCAGCGUGAUUCGGAAGAGGAUUGUCGAGGACAUGAGGGACAUUGUUCUCAAAAGUCAACUUUCCUUGAUCAAUGAGCUUCUUCACGAUGUACUUCAAAGCAUAGCAUCCUUCGACAUCAUGACCCAGAGCACCUUGAUGGAAAUCACAUAUGAGGUCAGACCGGAACCUGGGAGGCAACGGAUCAGGUGGAGGCUUGCCCUGUCUGGUGGUGCAGUGCCCUCUGAGAAGUAGAGUUGGGAGUAGCUCAGCAUACAACAUUGGUAUCAGAGGAAAGGUAGGUCUAGCUUGUUGCUGCUGUCGUUGUUGAGCUGGAGGCUGAUUGUUCCCAGGCGGCUAGCAGAGCAGUCAUGGUAUCAUUGGCCUUUGCCAAUUCUUCCCUCAGAGAAGCCAACUCGGUGCGAAGCUGAGUGUUCUCUUCCUCCAUAGCUACCAAAUUCUUUUUUCUGUACAAUCUAGUCCGAUGGAUUCUGUCAGGUUCGUAGACUUUUCGAGCACGAGCCACCUUUCAAACUCUGUGGCAGAAGAACCAGGAGGCAAUGAGUGCUUGGAAGCUUCUGUGACUGAUGAAUGAUGCAUAUGAUGCAUGAUAUGUACAAAUGCAGAUGCAAAAAUGACUUUUUUGUCAUCGAAGGGUUUUUAGACAAAUUAGAAACCUUGUAAACAUUAUUUAAUAAGAUCUCAAUAGCGUUCAAAUCCACGAAGUUGUCGAGAUUCGAAAAGAGAAUGAGCCCAUAGAUAAACAAUGCAAGAAUAGCCUCGAGUGUAUCUUGACAAGUGGUUUCGAAUUAGCCCGCUCAAGUAGAUACUUUGAAGUGAACCCUCGGAUGUGAGAAUUGGUAAUAAGAUGAUUGGAGACGUCGGAAGUCCUGGGAUAGAUAUCCUUAGCAAUAACCAAAGGAGUAAGAGAAGUUCCGGGACCGCUAUAGGUGAAUCUAACAAGUAGGAAUAAGCCUCAAGAGUAGGGACCAAUUGGAAAUCCGAGAAAGUGAAGCAACGGAAACUCGAGUCAUAGAAUCGCACAAGAGUGUGCACUAGCUUCCCUUCAACAUUGGUCUGGAGAAUAGUGAGCAAACCACCAUAUCGGAGUCGAAAACCUGUUUGAUUCUUAACCUUGAGUGCCAAUUCUCUCAAGCUAACCAAAUCAACCUCCUUGCACUUGUAGGAUUUAGUCUUCUUCAUACCAGUAAUGUUUACAAAGUUUUUAAUUUGUCUAGUCCUUCGAUGAAGGCAUGAAAAAAGUUUAUGCAUGAAUGCAUGUAUGCAUGAUUGUUUUUUUUUUUCAAUUACAGAGAAUACAUGGUGAGGGUAAGUUCCACAAUGUUGGAGUUAAGGAUAACAACGCCAUUUGGUAAGGACUAUGGUUUAAAAUGUACCUGCAUCACGGGUUCUACCAAGUUCCCAAAUUACAACUUCCCUUAUGAGCAUAUCGGUGUAUAGGACCGCUCCUAGUCCAAUAACGCCCAUAAGUAAGUCUAGUUUGAGUGUAGUAUCGCGUGUCGACCAAAGUCAAAACUGCUCUUGGUUUAGCCACCGCACUACGUCCUAAAAAAAGGCCAAGAUGGGUUAAGGGUGAUCUAAAGGUCCUCAACGUUUAGCGGACUUCAAAAAUAAUAACGCCAAUCACGACUGCUCAUGACGACAUAUUAUUACUUUUGAAAGACCUACGUUGAGUGGAGUUAUAUCACAUGUACACAUAUCGCAGGACCGCUCCUGGUAUGGCACUACGAUUGUACCCCGUCCUAUCUUAUGUUUCACUCAAGCCCGGGUGUAGGACUUUGAUAUUCUCACCCCACACGUUAAAUGAAAAUAAACAAAUAUUCACAUAUAUAAGCAAUAAAACAAAGCGUAAACAUAAACUACGGAAAACUAGGCGUGACCCGCUUAAAAAAUGUCCCCAGUGAAGUCGCCAUUUCUGUUAUCAUGGUUUUUGGGUGCCAAGCCAUUAAUUGGACUUGAACCUUUUGACCGUUGAUAUCUUCUUUUUUCUUGGGAAGGGUAAAAGGAGAAAAACCCUUGAGUUUCCGAAUUCGGGGGUCGAUUUCGCUACGGGAAGGUGUUAGGCACCCGGAGCGAUUAUGGUAUUCCAUAAGAACCGUUCUCCUAAGUUUAUUUCUACGCUUUAUUUUAUUGCCUAUUUAUUGAAAGAAAAGAAGUUUUAUUUGAGUGAAGAAUGGGGGAGAGAAGAUGAUUGAAUUUGAUUUUAUUUCGGCUUGGAGGGGUUAAAGUCCCUUGCCUACGUACCGUUUUACGGGAUCAAAACCGGCGUAGUUCUUGCUAAAAAGACUUGUUGUUUUUUUUGUUUUAAUUGUUUGAUUUUAAAUUUUGAAAAUGAUUUUGAAGAAGGGGAUUGAGAGGCUUCAUGAGCAUUAGAGUAUGAAAAAGUGGGGGUUUGUUUAGUGAUUUUGCAAAAAAGUCUAAAUGAUUAGAUUUAUUUGAGAAUUUUAUUAAGAAAAUAAAAGGUGAAAAAUUGUUGGAGUUUUGACUCCAUUUUUAUGAAAAAAUAUUUGAAGCGAAUUUGUUUGCAUAUUUUUUGGAAAAAAUUGGAUUUUCUCUAAGUGUUUAAACCUAAGCAUUCAUCUAACCAUGCAAUCCUAGGCAUACAUCUACACAUGCAAUCCUAGCCAUACAUCUAGGGUGAGUGUGUGCGUGCCGGUGCGUCAUAGUGUCCAUAGUCCAUAUUACAAAAAUUGCCUAAAUACAUUCUAUGGCCCCUUUGCCAAGCUACAAACCAAUGAUAACAAAUUACAUCACCAAAUGAAUUAAAACUUGCAAAAAUAAAUGCUAAGCUAAAGAAAGUGGAGGAGGUAGUGGAAUGCUAUGAGUGAAGUCUCACAAGGAACAAAAUGUUAGUGAAACAAGGAAAAAUAUAAUGGGAAUGAUGAAAAAUGCACCAAAUGAAUAUGCAAUAAAAAGGGGUAAAAACAUGAGAAUUUAUCAAGCACAAUGUGUAAUAAAUGGCCUAUAAUGCAAGCACAAACACAAACCAAAUGAAAACAGUGGCACAAUCAUUGAAUUAUCAUCACAUCUAUCAUGAAAAUGCAUUCUAAUUAGCCAUGCUAUGCACCAAAAUUCUUAGGACAAGAAUCAACCUAAAAAGCAUGACAAAGCUAACUAGAGAAGUAAUUUGAACGAGAGACCUAUGCACAUAUUUUUUACCAGUUAUUUGCAAGCAAAAUAUCAUUAAAAAAUCAUCAAGAAAGUGGUAAAAACAUGUAGUAAUUUUUGGAAUUUAUGGUAAAAAAAUCAGAGCAAUCAGAGGUUCAGAUAGCAAAAAGAACGGUGUAAGUAGCACAAAAAGGCAAAGAAAUUCUUAGAAAACUAAGCCCAAACCUACAGCCUAACACACAAAACUCAGAUUGCACAGGAGACGUUGGAUUGAUCCAGGGUAGGAAACCCUAGAUCCAACGGCCAGGAACGAAGGAGGUUGGACCGGUCCUGAACCGGUCCGGUUCACUGGCUUUAAAAAGGGGGGGAAACCGGUUUUUUCCUAUUUUCUUCCUCUCCUUCUCUCUCUAACUCUUCUCUCUUCUCUCAUCUCUCUCUAAACCCUCACCGCCGGUGAGGAUGAAGCCACGGCAGAGACCUUGAAGGUCCGCCGGAAGCUUCAUCUUCUCCGGCGAGUCCUAUGCACUCUCCGGUGAAAAAUUUCCAGAAUUUAAAGAUUUUUACAUCAAAUGAUUCGUCCUUUAACCCUAAACACGAAUCCAGCAAUUAUUUUCUCAAACACAGCUUGAUACGAUGUAGAUCUGAAAAUUUCGUACGGUUUUGAAAUUGAUUUUCUUUGAUCUUUUUUUGAAAAAAAAAGGUUUAGAUCUUUACGGAUCUACAUCGUUUCGUCGUUUAUCUCUUUUCUGGUGCUUGUUCUUGCUUUCAAAACUUAGGUCCUUAUGGAUCUAGGUUUUGUGUUUACGGUUACGGUCUUAUCUUUGAAUUCUGGAAAUUUUUAGAUCUGUUUCUCGCGUGAUUUUACAGGUUAAACUAUGAUAUCACUUCUGAAAAGGAAUUCUGAGUUUUACCUGAAGUUUUUGAUUGGAGGUUUUAUGAGAUUCUUCGGAAAUCUUGAUUCUGUUCUUGAUGAUUUUUGAUCCUUCCGCUUGUUCUUUGGACCGAAAAUAAAUCGGUGAUUCACUGGCUUAAUCCCUUCAUCUUCUCCGAUUCUUUCUCUGUGAUUAUACGCUUGAACUUGCUUUCCCUCUUCUGAUCUUCUCUCUGUGAUCAACGCUUGAGCUUGCUUCAAUGCGAACUCGCGUUUGGAAUUGCAGGGAAACGACCAAUUCAGUGAUGAAGAUUCCACAGAAUCUCUGAGAAUCGAUCCAAAAAUUGUUGAUUCUGAUGAAUUUUAGGGUUUCUGGAAACGGUUAGGGUUUUGUGUUCUUGGUGUUCUUGAGAAAUUCUGAGAAAUUUUCUGUUUUGAUUCAAUUGCUGAGAGAGAGAAAAUUAGAAUUGUGUUUAUGAGUUGGCGUGUGGUUAAUGGAUCUCUGUGGCACUGUACACCUUUUAUAGCCUGCCAUGUGUGAUCUUGGACCAUUAGAAAGCUGACAUGUGGCAUUGGACUGAAAAAGGGGCGCUGCCUUGUAAUUUGACUUGAAGGACCUGUUUGCAAAUUUGAAAAAAUAUAUGGACUGGACUGAAAAAUGAAAGUAAGGACUGAAAUGAAAUUAAAAACUGUUUGGACAAAAUAUGCAAUUUUGGGACCUCAAUUGAGGGACCAAAAUGCAAUUAAAAAUAAAAUUGGAUAAAACGUAAUUUGACCAAACGUAAAAUGAAACAAAAAAAUAAAAUUGACAAAACGGACUAAAACGAACCAAUGGCUUAAAUGAGGUACUUCAAAGUAACCCCUCUAUGCCGAAAUUUUGUGUGAAAUGACCAAAAUGCCCUUCUGUACGACUUUUGAAAUAAAAUGCAAGAAAAGUAAUGCGAUGAUUUAUAGAAUUUUUUCAAAUGACUUGUAAUGCAAAAAGACAUUUUGGAUGGUUUUAUGCGCAAGAAAAAUCAAAGACAAAAUCACGAUUGAAAAUAGUUUGAGACAGACAUUAAAAUAUGCAGAUGAAACAAAGUAAAGGUUCAGGGAAAUAUAACAGCAAAUUGACAAAUAUCAGUAUUGAAAAAGAAAUUUGAAUAAGUAUUUUUAGGUCCAAAAUCAGGGUACAACACAUGCAAAUAAUCAAAAAUCACAAAAAUAUCUUCAUAAACAAACCUUGAUCUUAAAUCAAGUGACCGUCUUUUGUUUUCAUUUUCUUAAUCAAACUUUAAUCAAUUUAAUCAUAUUUUGAGUCAUUUUCUUUUAAUAUAAAAAAUACAAACAAAUACUCAUUUGCCACUUGGCUUUUCAUUUUAAAACCUUUUUUCAAAACUAAUAAAAAACACUCAACAAAUCAAACGUCGUUUUCUACCCCGAACUACGAGGUUUUGAUCCCUCACGGGUACGUAGGCAGAGGACCAUGUCCUUCCAAAUCAAUAAAAUGUAGAUAACUAGGUCUUUUAUUCUUCCACUUUAAUUCCUUCUUUUCAAAAAUAAUAAGCAAGUUUAUAGCACAUUAAUUAAAUAAAAUCAAGAGGUUCUCGUAGAGUACUACGAAUAUUUAGGGUGCUAAUACCUUCCCUAAAUAUAACCAACCCCCGAACCCUAAAUCUCAAUAUGGGGUAGUUUGAACCUUUUUCCCCUUUUUCUUAAAAAAAUUAAAUGUUCAGUCGUGAAAUAAUUAGUGAGUCAAAAGCUAAUCAAAUAGCCUUGAUCUCCAAAAAAUGACACGACAGAAAUGGCGACUUCACUGGGGACCCCCUAAGAGGGUUAAGCCUAACUUGGCUUUAUUUAAAUUUUGUUCUAUAACUUGCUUAAAAUCAAAAAAUAAAAUAUGGAAAACCGUGUAUAUAUGUUCUUCCUUCUUCGUUCUCCUUUCUAAACUUGAGUGGUGAGAUAAGUCAUACACCCGGACUUGAGUGAACAUUAAGAUAGGAUGGUGAUAUAAUCAAAGUGCCAUUCCAAGAGUAAUCUUGAGUGUUGGUACAUGUGAUAAUCCCGCUCAAUGGAGGUUCUUGGAAGUAAUACUUUGUUGACAUGAGUAAUCAUGUUUGACACUAUUAUUUUCAAGUAACCGUCGAAGUUGAGGGCCUUUAGUUACCUUUAACCCAUCUUGGCCUUUUAGGACGUAGUGCGGUGGCUAAUCAAGAGUAAUCUUGAAUUAGUUGAUACGCGAGACUACACUCAAACGAGACUUUCCUUCAAAUGAUAUUAGAUCAAGAGUAAUCUUGUAACCUAAUAAUAUUUGGAAGUGGUUAAAGACUUUGGGAACUUGGUAGAACCCGUGAUACAGGUACAAAUGAAACCAUAGUCCUUACUAAAUGGCGUUGUUACCCUUAAAGCUCCAACAUUGUGGACUUAACCUCACCAUGCAUUCCAUGUUCUUUAGCAUAAUCAUGCAAACAUGCAUUCAUUCAUAAAAACUUUUUCUCACUAAUAUCGAAGGACUUAGAUAAGUUCUUGUAAACAUCAAAGAUAUGGUCCUUGUAAGAAGGAACACCUACAACUUCAAAAACCUUAACUAAGCUUUAGCUUUUGUUAAGAAUUUUUUCCUUGGUUUCGUUCUUACUUUUGAAAAGGGAACCAAUUGCAACAUCUUCACAAUUUUCAGAUAAAACAAUGUUCCUUAUCAAGUUUACAAUUACUUUGACAAAUCCUUCAAAAAAAAUGUGUCUAUUUUUGCAUAAGCAUAGCAUGCAUCAUUUUGCAUUCAUAAUUUCAAGUCUGAGUCUCACACUGUGUCUUUUCUACUAAAGGUCAAUCCAUUUCAAAAGUGGCCCGACGUAAUCUUUACCAGUCUACCCGCACAUACAACACUCGGGCUAAUAUAAAAAAGAAAAUGGAAGGUCUUGAGCAAGAAAAUCAGGUCCUCCGUGCCGAAGUGAUAUCAUUGAAGACCAAGAUAGAGGAAUUGGAGUCCAUGAAGACCAAGAUGGAUGAGUUGUCUGAAUUGGUAAAAGUGCUAUCAACUGCACAAAAUCAACCACCACCACCUCCUCCCUUCAGCACUCAGGCCGAAGCAUCUUCCUCUUCUAUCCCCGAUUGGACAAUAUGUGCCGACACUCCGACAUACUCUGCUCCACAACGUUCCGCGCCUUGGUUUCAACCUUUUACUGCUGGUGAAAUAUUCCGUCCCAUUGCCUGUGAAGCUCAGAUGCCUACUCAUCAGUAUGUGGCUCGUGUUCCCCCUGUAAAGGUCCCUCCAGUCGCUAUGACCUACUCAGCACCUGUGAUGCAUACUAUUCCACAAAAUGAAGAAUCCAUCUUCCAUUCAGGGAACAUGGAGACUUACGAUGGAAUGAGUAACUUACGAGAAAAGUAUGAUGAACUGCAACGAGACGUGAAAGCUCUCCGUGGGAAAGGAAAAUUUGGAAAGACUGCUUACGAUCUCUGUUUGGUGCCGAAUGUUCAGAUACCUCACAAAUUCAAGAUUCCAGAUUUCGAGAAGUAUAAAGGGAACUCCUGCCCUGAGGAACAUCUAAAAAUGUAUGUGAGAAGGAUGUCCGCAUAUGCCCAGGACGAUCAGGUCCUUAUUUAUUACUUUCAAGAAAGUUUGGCUGGUCCCGCCUCAAAAUGGUACAAAAAUCUAGACAAAACGGAAAUCCAAACUUUUCGUGAUCUAUGUGAAGCUUUUGUGGAACAGUACAAUUAUAAUGUGGAUAUGGCUCCAGACAGAAGCGAUCUUCAGGCUAUGACCCAGGGAGACAAGGAAACAUUCAAAGAGUAUGCCCAGCGAUGGAGAGAUACCGCUGCCCAAGUCAGCCCACGUAUAGAAGAGAAGGAGAUGACCAAGAUCUUCUUAAAAACUCUCAAUCAUUUCUACUACGAGAAGAUGGUCGGAAGUACGCCCAAGAACUUUGCUGAGAUGGUUGGUAUGGGCGUACAGUUGGAAGAAGGAGUCCGAGAAGGACGAUUAGUUAAAGAUGGAGCUUCCGACAGUGGAGCCAAGAAAUUUGGGAACAACUUCCCAAGAAAGAAAGCACCAGAGGUCGGUAUGGUGGCCCAUGGGAGGCCUCAGCAAAAUUAUCCAGCCUAUCAGCAUGUUGCUGCCAUUACACCCGCUACCAAUGCUAUUCAACAACCGGGUUAUCAGCCGCAGUUCCAACAGUAUCCUCAGCAACUGUAUCAGCAACAACAACCUCGACCACAAGCUCAAAGGACCCAAUUUGACCCGAUCCCCAUGAAAUAUGCGGAUUUGCUCCCAGCAUUGCUAGAGAAGAAUUUGGUCCAGACCAGGCCACCUCCUAAGGUGCCAGAAAGAUUACCAACAUGGUAUAGACCUGACAAGUUUUGUGCUUUUCAUCAAGGGGCCCCAGGUCAUGAUACUGAAUACUGCUAUACUCUGAAGGCCGCAGUCCAAAAGUUAAUCCGAGAUAAAGAUCUGUCCUUCGCCAAUCCGCUACCAGAUCAUGGUACCUAAUAUUGCCACAAAAGGAUGGUUAACCGCAAUCGGGUCAAUGUUGAUGUCUUCUUCCAUUUGUUCAAUUUGUUUUAAGUGUUAUGUUUGUUGUUUUGUUAUCUUUCCAAAAGAGUCCUUUCGUCCCGCCCAAGACGAAAGUGAACUUAUGUAGGGCUUUUUGCUUCAUGAACUGUCAUCAUUAAUAAAAAGGUCGUUUUGAUCCCGACUUUGUUUUUUAUUUUAUUUUGUGCUUCUUCUUGAAAAAUGGUAAUACAAAAAAAAAACCAAAAAAAAGAAAAAACUUUAAUCAUUCUCAAAUAUCUGCAUAAUCAUAGCUUGUACUUACUUGUCAAAAUCAAUAAUCAAAUCAUGCAUUAAUAAACCUGUUGAACAUAAUAACCAUCUACUCUCUCCCAAAUUUGAGUUCUCUAUGACCGAAGAUGAAGAAGAGGAGAAUGAAGAGACUCCAAACAAGAUCUCUCGCCCACUGGGGCAUCUUAGCCGUCAAAGCUGCAAACAAAAUAUAAAAGAAGAUUGUCCAAAAGAUUGCUUUCAUUUACAAAGACCGGCACGAAAUGCUACCAUUUGCACUUCAUGAGUAUUGUACUUCAGUACACACUUCAACAGGGGCAACCCCCUCUUUCAUUAACAUACAUCAUGAAGGCCAUACUUCCCGUGGAGGUCGAAGUCCCGACAAUAGAAGUUUUGCCGAAGUCCAAGCUUGAUUGAACUUAAAUUGCAUGACGACCUUGUACAAACAUGUCAAAAGAGGUUGAAACAAACUUCCAACAAGAAGGUUCGUCCUCUUGAAUUUCAAGAAGGAGACUCUGUGCCUAAAAAGGUAUUAUCUUUCCAACCAGACUCUAGGGGCAAGUGGACGCCUAACUAUGAAGGUUCAUGUGCAAUGACUUUUACAACUAUGGAUGGUGACAAACUUGCACUUCCUAUGAAUGCCGGUGCAGUCAAGAAAUAUUAUGUCAAAAAAAUAAAAGCUCGAUAAGUCGCAAACCUGAAAAAGGGGCUUAGGCAAAAAUGAGCGUCUCGAUAGACUGAAAACCUGAAAGGGCGGUCUAGGCAAAAAUUAGAGACAUGAACAAAAAUGAUUAUCCUGAUAGAUUGAAAACCCAAAUGGGCGAUCUAUGCAAAAGUUAAGGAUCAAAAGACAAAUUAACUGCAUCCGGCGGAGCACAAUCCACUUGGGGCAUCCGGUUGUCAAAAGACCUCCGAUUCGAAGCAUCUGCAGAUCAAAGACUCGGAACAUUGGCAUUCAAAGUUGUUAGGGAGAAUAGUGGUUAUGGUGUUCAAUGUACCAUCCCAUACAUUUACCAUUUUUCAAAAUUUCCAAAAAAUCUGUGGAGCCAUGCCCUUAGCAGGCCACCACUCAAUUCAUCAAAUUUGAGCUUAUGCCCAUUUAUUCAGAACUCUCAUUUAUUCUAUUUGCAUAAUUUCUUCUUUUUGAUGGCAAUACUUAAAGCAAAAAUUUUCAAAAAAAUACAAAAAACUUUUUUUUACAUCUUUUGAAAAGUGUGAACAACAAACACACUCACUUUGAACUCAUGAGUAGGUGAAGCAUACAUCAACAUUCGCCUCGAGAACGGUUACACUCCAUAAGAGAAACAGAGCUAAGCACUAUGGAAAUGAUCUCUGCCUUGAACAAGAUGUUGUCACAGUAAAAAAAAAAUAUACAAAAAAAUCAAAGCUCGCUAAGUUGAAAACCUGAAAAGGCGGCUUAGGCAAAAAUGAGCGUCCUGGUGGACUGAAAACCCGAAAGGGCGGUCCAGGCAAAAAUUAGGGGCAGAAAAAAAAGAAUAUAUUCCCGGUGGACUUAAAACCCGAAAGGGCGGUCUAGGCAAAAGUUAGGGAUUUUCAAAAAAAUAAUAUAAAAAAACAUGACUGCUGAGGCAUACCAAUGGAAGGACACUCUGUGCCGGUUCACAAAUGGCGACUCUUUCCAUACCUUUUUAUCAAUAAUGGGCUUAUACCGUCAACGGCUCGAUUUGUUCACAAUAAUAUCAUCUCCAAGGAAGUUUGCCGAGUGUUUGUACUGCGAUGUCAGUCCGCCUCCCAUCUUACCUAUCUUGUCUCGUCUCAUCGAGUCACUUGUCACAUAAAGUUUAUACAGUCAUGCAAGUUGUACAUUCAUAACAUUUGUACAUUCAUAAAAUUCAUACAUUCAUACAUUCAUGUACACAUCAUAUGCACAACAUCAGUUCACACAUAAUUGCAUCAGUCGUCCAGAAUCUCAAUUCGGUCGCGUCUCUUCGGUUCAGUCUUAACUUACCAUUGUGUCAAGCCGCAAGUUUCUACAAAUAAGCCUCUUCCAUUUACCUUCUUAUUGUCAAAGUGUCAUCCCCGGCGUGAAGCCGUGCUAGUCAUGACACUAAUCAAACUUCAAUUUCAAUUUCAAAAAGUGUCAUCCCCAGCGGUAGCUGUGCAAGUGGUGUCACCAGUCAAUUUCAACUCUCAAUGGUGUCAUCCUUAGUGUGACUGACCAAGUUGUCCUUUCAUUCUUACCUUUGUUAAGCUAUCUCAUCGAUAGUUAGGUAAAAGUAUCAUUUGUCUUUGUUAAGCUAUCAUUUCAACGGUAGUUAGACGAUGGUUUUUUCUCUCAAUCUUACCUUUGUUAAGCUAUCUCAUCGAUAGUUAGGUAAAAGUAUCAUUUGUCUUUGUUAAGCUAUCAUUUCAACGGUAGUUAGACGAUGGUUUUUUCUCUCAAUUUUACCUUUGUUAAGCUAUCUCAUCGAUAGUUAGGUAAAGGUAUCAUUUGUCUUUGUUAAGCUAUCAUUUCAACGGUAGUUAGACGAUGUUUUUCUUUCAUUCUUACCUUUGUUAAGCUAUCUCAUCGAUAGUUAGGUAAAAGUAUCAUUUGUCUUUGUUAAGCUAUCAUUUCAACGAUAGUUAGACGAUGGUUUUUCUUUCAUUCUUACCUUUGUUAAGCUAUCUCAUAGAUAGUUAGGUAAAAGUAUCAUUUGUCUUUGUUAAGCUAUCAUUUCAACGGUAGUUAGACGAUGGUUUUUUCUCUCAUUCUUACCUUUGUUAAGCUAUCUCAUCGAUAGUUAGGUAAAAGUAUCAUUUGUCUUUGUUAAGCUAUCAUUUCAACGGUAGUUAGACGAUGUUUUUCUUUCAUUCUUACCUUUGUUAAGCUAUCUCAUCGAUAGUUAGGUAAAAGUAUCAUUUGUCUUUGUUAAGCUAUCAUUUCAACGAUAGUUAGACGAUGGUUUUUCUUUCAUUCUUACCUUUGUUAAGCUAUCUCAUCGAUAGUUAUGUAAAAGUAUCAUUUGUCUUUGUUAAGCUAUCAUUUCAACGGUAGUUAGACGAUGUUUUUCUUUCAUUCUUACCUUUGUUAAGCUAUCUCAUCGAUAGUUAGGUAAAAGUAUCAUUUGUCUUUGUUAAGCUAUCAUUUCAACGGUAGUUAGACGGUGGUUUCUCUUUCAUUCUUACCUUUGUUAAGCUAUCUCAUCGAUAGUUAGGUAAAAGUAUCAUUUGUCUUUGUUAAGCUAUCAUUUCAACGAUAGUUAGACGAUAGUUUUCUCUCAUCCUUACCUUUGUUAAGCUAUUUCAUCGAUAGUUAGGUAAAAGUAUCAAUCGUCUGUGUUAAGCUAUCAAUACGAUAGUAGACAUUCAUUUUCCCCAGUGAAAUUACAUUCCCCUAGCGGAGUUGGACCCCUUUUCUUCAACGAAUUCGGGUAUCCCGUUUUUAUUUCUCAUUCGAGUCAAAUCAUCCUGCAUUCAUAAAUUGCACCAAAUGCAUCCAUAUCAUCUUAGGUCAAAAAUUGUGUAUUUUGUAUUUAAGUCUCUUCGACUCGUCAAAUCAAAGAUUUCAUCUUCAAAUCUCCGGACGAAGAAACUUAAAUAGGGGCAUCUGUCAUACCCCAAUUUUUGACCUAAGGUCCCACUGACAGUUGUCGUUUAAUCCUGAAUAGUCUUUGACUUUUCAAAAGGAAAUUUCGGCAGUAAGGUAUUUUAAAAUACCUCAUUUAGUUUGGUUUCUUAGCCCACAUUUUCAUUAUCACUUUAUUUUUAUUUUUAUUUUUUUUUAGUUAUUUUCUUUAAUUUUUUUUUUAAUAAGUCCAAAAUUGUCAAAAGAGCCGUGGUCCAAAGAUUCUUCACGCCACAAUUCCACAAUUCCAGGCAAAUUUACUCAGGUCUACUCUUUCUUUCCCAAUUUACCAGAAACGUGUUUCAUCCCUUUUAAUUCCAUUCAAGCACCAUUCAUUCCUAUUAAACAACAUUUCCUUUUGUUAUCAACCUUGAGCCUUUAAAUAGGAGUAAAAAUCAGAGAAGAAGGGGGACACGAUUCACACAACCUGAAAAGAGAAAAGAAAACCAGUAAUCACAAAUCAUCAAAACCUCUCUCAAACCCUCAUCACACACCAUCAUCGAAUCAUCAUCACAACAAUUCCAACCAACACAUCAAUUUUCCAGCCAUCAGUCACAAUUCCAAAACCCACACAAAAUCCUCACAACCGAUCCAACAAUUUUCCAAAGCCCUCCAUAAAAACCGACACAAAAACAUCACAGAAUACCAGCAUCAAAGGAACAACGCCGUACAUCAACCGAAACAGCCAUCACAGAACUGACCAGAGAAUCCGAAUCGAAAUCAAAAGGUAGUAUUUCAUUAACUUUUAGAUCUAGGCUCGUAUAUUCACUGUUUGAGAUUUGUGAGUUUAGAAUCGAGUAGAGGAGAAGAGAACAAGUAGAAGGAACCAAAAAAAUCAAAAAAAUAAGUUGUUAGGGUUCCGGCGCGGUGGCGCCGCCCCACAAGCUAGCCAACCGCCACCGGAACCCGCCUUACCUCCGCCGAGGAUGAUGAAGAUUUGCCGGAAUCUUCAUGUUUCAAACCCAGAACUUUGAACAAAUUAGAGAGAGGAGAGAGCUUUUGUGAGAGAAGGAGAAGUAAGAGAGAGAAAGAGAUGUAAAAAAAAUGAAGAAAAAACCGGACACACCACAUAUAUAUGGUACUAGACCGAGCCGGUUCAGCCUUGAACCGGCUUGAACCGGUCUAACCCAAAGAUCAACCCACGAGGCCCAACAGCGCGCCUCUGUCUCCCUUUAAACCCAAUUCCAUCUUUUGUUUCGUUUCUGCAACCCCCUGAACACUGCUGCACCCCCCCACCUUGUGAUUGAUCCCCUUUAUUUUAUUUCUCGCAUGCAUUUUAUUUUUGCUUUUAUUUUAGCAUUGUAAUUAUUAUUUUAUAUUCUCUCAUGCAUGUUUUAUUUAUAGCAAGAAUAUUAGAAUGCAAAUUAAGCUUUGAUGUAAAUAAUUCAUUUAUAUUCUUGUCAUUUAUUUUCUGCAGACCAUAGCAUGUAUCCUAGGCUUUAAUGUAAAUCAUGCAUGUGUGCGUGUGUGGGUGUAUGCUUUAUUUUAUGUUUCUAGCUUAGGUUACAAACGUUUUACUUUCCUUGCUCCGUUAGUUUACAUUUUAGUUUAGCUUUUAUUCAAAAACAACAAAAACAUGCAAAUAAUCAAAAAUCACAAAAAUAUCUUCAUAAACAAACCUUGAUCUUAAAUCAAGUGACCGUCUUUUGUUUUCAUUUUCUUAAUCAAACUUUAAUCAAUUUAAUCAUAUUUUGAGUCAUUUUCUUUUAAUAUAAAAAAUACAAACAAAUACUCAUUUGCCACUUGGCUUUUCAUUUUAAAACCUUUUUUCAAAACUAAUAAAAAACACUCAACAAAUCAAACGUCGUUUUCUACCCGGAACUACGAGGUUUUGAUCCCUCACGGGUACGUAGGCAGAGGACCAUGUCCUUCCAAAUCAAUAAAAUGUAGAUAACUAGGUCUUUUAUUCUUCCACUUUAAUUCCUUCUUUUCAAAAAUAAUAAGCAAGUUUAUAGCACAUUAAUUAAAUAAAAUCAAGAGGUUCUCGUAGAGUACUACGAAUAUUUAGGGUGCUAAUACCUUCCCUAAAUAUAACCAACCCCCGAACCCUAAAUCUCAAUAUGGGGUAGUUUGAACCUUUUUCCCCUUUUUCUUAAAAAAAUUAAAUGUUCAGUCGUGAAAUAAUUAGUGAGUCAAAAGCUAAUCAAAUAGCCUUGAUCUCCAAAAAAUGAUAUGACACUUAUAUUUAAAAACGGAUGGAGUAUGUCUUUUAAGUUAUUCUCCUUCCUCCUUCAAAAAAUAAAAGUUAUUUAAUUCUAACUUUUAGGCGUCGAAUAACUUACAUUUAUAAGAUCUGACAUCUCUCAAAUUUUUACGAUUAAAUAACUUAAAAGACUUAAUUGGUAUGAAAAUAAUUUAAAGGACUAAUUUGUUAAAAUUAAUUAAUUUAAAGAUCUAAGUGGUAAAAAAAUAAACUUAAACACUAAUUAAUUUAGCCAUAUUUUUAGAGCACCUGGACAAGAAGGUAGUAUCUGAUGUAAUCAAGGAGAGGAUUGUCUGCCAUGAGAUUUUCUUUUGUUUUUCUCCGGUCAACAAUAUUAGCCCUUCAUUUGUUUAAUGAUAGAUCAACGGGGGGCGGGGGCGUAGUAACAAGUGGCGAACGUCCUUCCUUCUCUAUUGUCCUUCUACUAGUAUAUGCAACCCGUGCGGACGCACGGGUGAAAUUCUUCCUUGAGCAGCAAAAAUUCAGACCAAACAAUUAUUUUUGCAUCAAAAAUAAUAUUUAUUUGCUCAAAACCAGAAAAAACUAAUACGAAAUACUUCCUCACAUUUUCAACCCUUUUUAAGUGUUUGGCAGCAAUGCAACGAAGCUAAAAUUUAACGAAGAGAAAUCUUAAAGAUAACAAAAAGGAAAAGAGCAGAAAAAUGAAGGAAGGUUAAGUAUUUAUAGACUGAACUUUAUACUAUGUCCGCACGGUUUAUACUGUGUUCGUACUGUUACCGUUGUUGUUACCGUUACUGUUUCAGUUAUCGUUAAGGUUAACGUUACUGGGGUGGUUAAUUUGAAUUAAUUUAUCUAUGGCUCACAAAACAGGCUUUUUCAUUCGACGCUUUAAAUUGAAUUCGCAAGCAAACAAUAAGUACAAAAGAGAAAAAUACGGUAGAAAGGAAAAAACUUUUAUACAACAUUAGACAACAUGUUUUUGUUUAGAUAAAUAGCGAAGCUAAGUCUUCGUGAGCUUAACUCAGUUGGUUAAGGACAAUACAUAAUAUAUGUAAGGUUCGAGGUUCAAACUCCGACUACCAAAAAAAAAAUAGCAAAGACCAAGUCCUACCAACUAAAGCCUAGCCAAAACAUAUAAAUAUAAAAACAACACUCAAAACAAUACACUAACUCUUCGUGGGAGAGACAUGAGAAACAGAUGCUCGCAUCCGAACUUUAAAAACAUGACCACUCUUUUUUGGGUUAACAAUCUCAAACUUGAAACAGAGAAUGUCACGAACAUUGAUCCCAUUUUCAUCACAAAAUUCCUUCCAUCUCAUUCCCAGCGCAGUUUUCCUCGAAGGUGCAUCCAUGUAGAACUAAUAUACCAACCAAGUGAGAACUGAUGGCACUUAAUGCAUUCAGCUGAAGAUAAAAGUGCAUUGUGCAUCCAACCCGCAAGCCUAUGCUAUGAUAAGUUGGAAUCUGGUCAGGGUUUUCAUGUUUCUUGCUAUGAUAUAUCCCAAAAAGAUUAUCACCAUAGUAACAAAGUAUAACCUUCUCGUUGCUAUGAAAACCAAAUACAUCAUGCAUCUCUUUCCAUCAUGCAUCUCUAACCAUGUGGCUUUUAUCUAAAUAGUUCAUUAUUGUCCACUCUUCACCAAGAUCAUCCUUGUGAUCUUCCAGAAAAAUUGGAUUAACCACGCCAAAUUCCUUAAAAAAAAAGUUUGCAAUGCAUAAGGUGACAUAAAACCAAAACAAUACUUAAAGAACAACAAAUAAAUACUUACCUUGCUGCCAAGAUAAAGAGUAGUAAAACCACCACAUGGUUGUUGUUCAAGGUAAAUCUAGUAAUUCUCCAUAAGCAUUGUCGCUUGAACUUGUGUUGUGUGCAUACCCACCAAACUACUUAUAUAGAGAGAGAGAGAGAGAGAGAGAAAAACGUACAUUUUUUGAUUAAUUUUUUUAACUAUUCCCAUCGUUUCCAUAAUAACGUAAAAAUGGAGUCUAAAACACGUGGUAAGUACACAAAUAUGAAAAGAAAAAAAAAUGGUGGAAGAAAACCUAACAUAAAAUAAAGUAGGAGGUGACAACACGUUGAUAUAUUUGUUCAUGUUGAGUAAUAGUGUACUUUUUGUUUUAUACAAAUAUAAAGUUUGAUAAAACCAAGAACCAAAAAUCUUAAAUUGAUGUUUAAAAUUUUAAGACUAAAUCAAAUAGAGUUUACUUGAUAUACCCAAAUUACAUGUGGAUUUUAACCUCGAGGAUAACCAUACACACCAUGUUUACUAUUCAAUAUAUUUACAAUGUAUGCACUAUAUCUUUUGUUUUUUUGUUUUGUUUACAAUCAACUAUAUUUACUAUAAUUAAUAUACUUACUAUUUGCCAUACUUAUUAUUUAAUCCAUAAACUAUAUUUACCAUUAAUUGUUUAGUAUUUUUAUAUUACUAAAUCAAUAUUAAUAUUACUAUAUUACCAUUACUAUAACAAAAAUGAGGAAUUAGACCCUGCUACUUUUUAUUUAGUGGUCCACAAAAACUUAAAACUAAGUAUCAAAAACAUCAAAUAGUACAUAAAAUAAAAAGAGUAAUAGAUUAAAAUAGGCUUAAUUACUCUUUUGGUUUCUUAACUUAUUUUUUGGUUUCGUUUUGGUUCCUUAACUAUUAAAAGUUUUGUUUCGGUCCCAUAACUUAUUUUUGAGUUUUCUUUUGGUCCCUUAACUAUUAAAAGUUUCGUUUUGGUCCCUUAACUUAUUUUUUUGUUUCAUUUUGAUCCCUUAACUAUAAUACAUUCAUCCUAACAUAAAGGACCAAAGUGGUUGACGGAUGAAGAGUUAAGGGACCAAAACGAAACCAAAAAAGUAAGUUAAAGGACGAAAACGAAACUUUUAAUAGUUAAGAGACCAAAACGAAACCAAAAAAUAAGUCAAGGGACCAAAAGAGUAAUUAAGCCAUUAAAAUAUUAGGCAAUGAUCAUCCAGGUUCUUAAAACUAAAAGCCAAGAGAAUUAAAUGUGAUAUGUGCCACAUCCAAGGGCGUUAGUCAAGCAAGAAAAUGGACAUGACUAAAGGUAAAUAACACCCGGGACAAAAGAAACAUGAAAGAAAGGUCAAAAAGCAAAUAGCUUCCAAGGAUAACUUCAAUAGUUGAAAACUAUUUUCUGUCAUUUUUAUGAUCUUCAUCAAGCAAUGCAUAAAAGCAAGGAGAAUUUGAAACAGAUACCAUUGACAAUGAUGUGAAUGAAAACGUGUAUAUCUUAUAGCAAUAGUUAUCCAUCACCGACAAUAAAAUUGGAUUCAAAAUAUUUUUCCAUCAUAGCAAUCAUGUUUUCUGUUAAGCCAAAGAUAAAUUAAAUCCAACAAAAGAGGUAGAAUGACCAUUAAAAUUAUAUUUCUUCGAACCACCAAUAACAUGGAAAUUACAGGCUUAUUAAAUUAAAAAUAAAACAAUAAAUUAACACCAUAAUAUAGAAAUAAUAAAAGUUAUAAAAGUAAGUUAGAUAAGAGUCGUUUAAAAAAAUUCGAACAGGACUCAAAUUGUUUUUGAUAACUUGGACGAUAUUUAUGUUGAUGAUUUGGUUUUUGAAUCCAUUUUUACGUGGUAGAGUUUUUCUGAGGCAAAACAGAUGGUGUUCCUCGUAGAACUAAAAAAUAUUAUGCCAAGCUAGCUCUUUAACUUACAGCUAUGUACCACUUUGUAUUGCACCUCUUAUUUAUAGUGAAAUGCAUUAGUUAUGCUCCUGUCAAAAACAGAAGUUGCUUAAAAAAUUCAAUCAUCACAGCAAAAUGUGGAUGACUGGAUUAAGUAUGAUAUAGCAUAUAAUGAUUUUUCCUUCUCCAAUUUAAAAUAAAAAACAUUACUUGGUACCACAAAACAAACUUUUUAUUACACACGAUUAAAACAUGUCUAUAAUUCUUAUAAGUAUAGCAACAUAGAACACAAAUAAACUAUAGCAUGGAAACAAUAGAUUAGAAAGUUCAGCAGCAACAUACGUAAACACAUCACAUUUCUCGUGAGACCGCAUGAGGAUAUAAAGCAAAAUACAUCACAUUUCAAUCCUUGACAACCUUAGCAGACUUGGCUGAUUUCUUUGACCUCUUCCGAGAAACCUCAUCAAAUCCUUCACCAAACUCCUCUUGGCAUGAUGACUGGAAGUAGCAAACAACAUUGUCGUCGUUCAAAUCAGGGGUGAGUAUUAAAUUGGAGGUCAAACCUCAGGAGAGCCAACAAUCUCCCCAGAUUCUGCAGCAUUAGAAGGUGAAAGGGCUGCACCCUAAACAAACAAUUUAUCCAUUUCAGCAGGAUAAAAUCCAUCAUUUUCACCCUAAAAUAAAAUUAACGAACACAGUAAAAGACAAUUAACACCCAGUAAAUGCCCGUCAUUACAAUCGAAGUAGUUUCUGUCAACUGAGGAUAUUUAUAUUCAUAUCUCUAUAAAUCAGAAAAAAACUUAGCUGUGGCAACCAUGGAGGCACCCUGCUUGUCAAUAAGGAAUAUAAAGCAAUCGUUUCCUGACAGUGGCAUUAAUCUUGCAACCCUUCAAAGAUGAACAGGCAAAAAGGCUUUAAAAGAAAAGCAAUAAUCAUUAACCAAAUUAACCAAAAUAAUAAUCAAAGGCAAACAAACAGCAAUACAAACCUUCUCAUCAACAAACACCAUCUCAAUUGAAUUGAUCUGUUAUGAUUGAAGAAAAUCACGCACCUCCCACAAACGAACAACACGAAGCUUGAAUCUCCAAGACUCUCUUCCAGGAAGAACAUCAGACAGCAAAUCAAAGCUGCGAUACCUCUGUGACCAGACCUAAGACCCUUGUUAUCAAACCUAACACCUUUCAACAUUGCAGAAGACAUUAAAAAAAAAGAUUUAAACCAGAGCAGAUUGGAAAUCGGAAAAAGAAAAGAAUGAGAUGAGUUGUGAGAAACAGAAAGAAAUCCAGGACUAUUUAUAGAGGAUUUGAAAAAGAGGGGGAAAGAUAAAUUCUCCUUUGAUGUGAAUGGACAUGUAAUUGAAUUAGCUUAAAUUAAUUGGAGGAAUUGAAGGAAUUCAAUCAAACCCCACGUGCAUCUUCAAAUCAUCCUUUAUUCCUUGAUAACGACAGCUUUUUUUUCCUGUAGAAGAAAAAUAGAGAAGUAAACGGUUGUCCAAUCAAUCCCAAAAAAAUUCAAAAAGGCUCAUUAAACCGCGAAAAUUUCACCAAAUAUGUUACAAAAGUCAAACCACCAGCAGAUGAAUAUCAAUGGUCUGCUGAACAAUCUCAUUAACAUUGGUAAGAUUAAGGAAGCUUGUACACCACACCCUCGACCAACUUAUUAUGGAAGAGGUACAACAGCUGCUUACGAAUAGUAGCGUGAAUCCUAACACCCUUCAAAAUCAACAUGACAUACAACCUUGAACAAAAGGACAAAUGACAAAAACAAAAGCUAAAACCAGGGCAGUUUAAAUAAAAACACCAACCUUCUCAUCAACCAACACCAUCUCAACCGAAUUCACCUGUUCAGGAUGAAGAAACGCAGGAGCCUCCCACAGACGCACCACACGAACAAUGAAUCUCCAAGACUCCUUUCCAGGAGCAGCAUCAGAUAACAGAUCAAAACUGCUAUCAGCACCAGCACGGGUCUGCAGACCAGACUUAGGUAUUUUACCACCAUGCCUAGAACCUUUCAACAUUGCAGAUGACAUAACAAAAAUUGAAGGAAAGAGAGAGAAUUGUGGAUGAGUGUGAAAACACAAAAACAAACUAGCCCAAUUUAUAGAACAACAGAGCACAAGCAGCCAAAACGGUUUUAAAAGGGGGGAAUUGAAGGAGUUGAUGUGAAAGGACGUAUGGAUAUAAUAUAUUAAAUAAAGGAAACUAACCAAAACCCAUGUGCAUCAGCGUCUCCCUCGUACCAAUUCGUUGACAACGACAUCCCUUGACCUUUGAGAAACCAGAUAAACUAUUGAGAGGUAAACGGCCCUCACAUCAAACCGCCACAAAAUUCAAAUUUAGAAAGGGGAAAACAACCGCGAAAAUUCCAGAAUUAAAUUGGCACAAAAGUCAAUCCACCAAAUUUCUAAAUCUACAGUGGACUUUUUUUUCACGUCUUGAUAAGAGUAUGGAUUUGAAAUGGUGGUUAGACCUAACACAAUCCCACAAAACCGAUUUGUGAGGUGAGGAUUGCCUCCACUUAUAAAUAAAUUGUCAGGCCAACUCCUAACCGAUGUCGGACUCUUAACACACCCCCUCACGCUUAGGAUUGCACAUCUGAAGCGUGAACAUAAAUGACGGGUGGCCUGAUAACGGAAACCUGAUAACAGGUGGCUCAAAGAAUCGUGAAGAGGCUCUGAUGUCAUAUUAGAAAUGGUGGUUGGGCCUAACACAACUCCACAAAACCGGCUUGUGAGGUGAGGAUUGCCUCCACUUAUAAAAAAAAUUGUCAAACCAACUCCUAACUGAUGUGGGACUCUUAACACCUGCUCCUCCGUUCUCAUAUUCUCCGUGUUUAUUUAUUUUUUCUCUAUUCAUUUUGCUUCUCAUUAGUUUGAUUUCUUUCUUGCUAAUUUUAAGAUUUUGUACUUUGAAAUUGUGAUCAUGGAAACUAAUUAUUAUUGUACAUGGUACUUGUUAUGUCGACAUUUGAAUUGAACCUGUAAUAUUGUGUGAAAGAUCCAAAGAAUGACAAAUAAAGUGGAAUUGAGUCUGAUCCUUGAUAAAUCAAUUUUCAAAUAAAAAACUGAACCAGUCAAAUUGUGAUCAAUGAAACCUAAUAAGAAGCAUGGAUUUUGUUUUCUCCGCUCAUGGCAAUCCCCCACUCCAAGUCUUCAACCGAUCAAAAAAUACAUUGACCUUCACAAAGCCUCUACCCCUAAACCGUCCUUUUGAGAAAAACUUUUGGGUUCUACCCAAGAGAUCCAUCCUAGAGAAAAAGAAGAGUUGGUAGAGAAGAAACUUGUCUGCAUUGAGCUUGAAGCUGGUAAUCGUCUUCUUCCCAAAAUCUAUUUGGAGUCGAAUGUAUUUCAGGAACUAUGUACCCCUUGGAAAGAUAUGCUUGUGUUGAAACUUUUAUGGAAACCAUUGGACUAAAACACCAUGAAGGAACGCCUCCAAAAAGUGUGGAAGCUACAAGGUGGAUUAAAUAUCAUGGAUAAUGAUAAUGGGAUUUACAUGGUAAAACUUGACUAGGCAGCAGACACAGAAAAAAUCAUCACGGGAGGGCCAUGGAUAAUAUUUUAUCAUUGUUUAGCGGUCUCUCAUUGGUGACCUGAAUUUGCUUCCCUAAAUGCUAAAAUAGAUCGCACGGUCGUCUGGGUACGUUUUAAUGGCCUCAAUUUAGUUUCUUAUGAGAAAAGUUUCCUCGUAGCCAUGGCUUCAGCAAUAGGAAGACCAAUCAAUGUGGACACUAAUACCUGAAAGGUUGAAAGAGGUAGAUUUGCUAGAGUAUGUGUCGAUGUAGAUCUUAUUGUCCUUGUUGUUGGUAAAAUUUGGGUCAAUGGUCAUUGGUAUAAAGUUCAGUAUGAAGGUCUUCAUCUUAUUUGCACAAAUUGCGGUUAUUAUGGCCACCUUGGUCGAAACUGCCCCACCACCCCAACCGUGCCGAAAGUCGCGGCACAACCUCAACAUACCCAUCCUCAUCGCCCCACACCAAGGUCAACCCCAAGUCAACCCCCAAAUUUUUCUGAACAUCUAAACAUCAGCCAAGGUGAAAAGGAAGACUUACAUGGUGAUUGGCUUAUAGUUACUAGGGAAAAAAACUAAACUAAACUCAAUCUGCUAGCCUCGUAAAACACACCAAAUGAAUCAAAUAGAUUUAUUUCUUUAUCCCUCGUGGCCCACAACAAUAAAGCUUCCACAUCCCAUCAUACUCUUCCUCCUAACAUUCUUUAUGCUACUUCCCAACCCAAAGACUCUCCCACUUGGUCUUCAAUCAUUCAUGCUAAAAAUGCUCUCAGAGAAGGUUUAUGUCGGCGUGUGGGUUCAGCUAUUUCUUCCUUCAAGUUUUGUCCUUGGAGCUCUCUAGGUCACAUAUGAUCGAUUGUUUCAGUCAUAGACAUACAAUCUCAGGUUUUAUACAUGCAACUUCUCUCAUCGGCAUCUGAUUCCAUCAACAACUUGAACAUUAAGUUCAACCCCUCCUUCGAUGAUGCUUUCAUCUAGGCAUCCAACAAAAAUGGCGCCUACACUACUAAGAGUGGCUAUGCCUGGCUGCUGUCCCAUUCAAACAUGAUUGCUCAUGGUCAAACUUCUUCCUCUUGGUCUUGGAUUUGAAAAUUAAAAUCUUCUGAAAUGCACAAAUUUCUUUUUUUGUUGGCUUGCCAAAAUUAUGUCCCCACUCUUUUAUUGCUCAACAAUAGGAAUAUGGAUUCAUCGACCCUUUGCUCUCGUUGUGGUCUUGAAGAUUAGACUUUUCUUCAUUGUGUCCGUGACUAUAAUUUCUCUCGUAUUAUUUGGAACCAUGUUGAAUUCAAUGAUACAAAUUUCUUCACAGAUAAGAAAGUGAGCCACUAGUUAAAGAAGGUCUCUUCGGGUACCAAGCCUUCCUUUUCAUGGCCACCGUUUGGUGGCUUGGCGUUGUAACACCCUAUUUCUAUUAAAGCGAUAAAACACACGAAUAAUAUAAAUAUUCAAGAAAUAGACGUCACAUCAUCAACAAAAUCCGAAACAACAUGCAUGUAUAAAAAUUUCCAACAGUCGCAGCAGAUAAAAAUCAUACAUCUCAAAAGUAUACAUGCCAUGAUAUCAAAAAAUCUCAAUAUAAAAAUUCUCCAAAUCCCGACAAGUGGGCAAAUCUCCAACACAUAAAUAAAUCCACAACAGAUAAUCUAGAAUAAUCAUAAACAGACACCUAGAUCAAAGCCUAUCCUAGACUCUAAGGACUUGAUAACGGAGAUGGCUUCCGCUAUCCAAGCAACCACCAAGCAACUCACAAAAGCGACUAACCCUGUACUUCGUCUACUCAUCCAUACAGACAGGUAGAUGGUCCAAACCACUAGGGGUAAGCUUUACAUCAAUCAUAAUCAAUAAAAUAAAUUUGAGCAUAUAUGAAUUAAAGUCGAUUCCGAGUACUUCACAUAAACAUUUAAUUCAAUAUGCACAUUCAUAUAACAAUCCCAAAUAUCACGAUCAAGUAUUCACCAAGCAUACUUAUAAUCAACAAUUAUCAUUCACAUCUCAUCACAAUCUUCAACAAUUAUCAUUCACAUGCAACAAUUACGACUCAUGUCAAUAUGCUAUGCGCCUAAUUCCGACACAUACAUGCAUGUGGUACCAAACAACAACAACAAGAUGCCAACCGCACAUCUUAUGUAAGAGUACACCUCCUCUUACGCACAACUAUGUAAAAGUACACCUCCUUUUACAUUUCUCAUAUGACUCGAUAUGACGAUGAUGCAUGGACAUAAGCAAAGACUCAAUAAUGCAAACUACUCAACAUAUACAUACACCAACACAAUGUAAAAGUACACCUACAAUUACAUUGUUCAACUUCAACAACAAUUGCAUUAUCAAGUAUUUACAUCCACACAAUCAACAUGUCAUCAUUCCAUUAAGAGUCGUCCCCAAAAUAUCACAAUUCAUCAACAUAUAUUCAUUAAUCAACUUCAACUAUAUUUUAUAGUUCAUGAACUUUGCAUAAUUUAUCAACAUCCAAGUAAAAUGGAAAAUACAACACCUUCUGAUAAACGUCACCUCAAACACUUACCAUUUACUCACAUAUCUUCAUUCAAACAUAUACAACUAAUCACAAAGGAAUGUAAGCAAUUGGCCUUAAAGAAUCAUUUUUGACAAAAUCCGUAUCAAGUGGCAAACGGCCAACAUUGAUAAUUUCCAAAAUAAAAUACCUUAUUCAAGUUUGAAAAUUCACAAAUCAAUCUUAAUCAAUCAUGUAGUCAUGAGCUUAAGCCACUUACAAACUAUUAGACAUUAGUUCAAAGUAUAGCUUAAGUUCGUAUGAGAAAACCCAAGUUUACAUUUUCCACAUUCCCACCCGAAAUUCAAGUUUAACAUGAUUAAGAUGUGAAACCAACUUUACAAGUCUUGUAUAAGUCUAUAUGAAUGAACUGUAGACCCAACUUGUAAUCCCAUUUAGUUCAAAAAAGUUCAUUUCGACGAAAAUCCAAAAUUUCCAAGAUCCAAGUUUCAACACAAAAUGGAAAAUCCCAAAUUCGAAUGAGUAAAACAUGUUACAAUAGGUUUAGGAGUUCAAACAGUGGUUAAAAAAGUUGAAAGAAACAUUUUACAAAACUCGGAUUGGUGUAACACUCCGUUUUUCCAACUUGAAAUUUUUUGCAUACAAAUCAGAGUAAUCAACUUAACAGGAUGUCACACUGAUCUAAAAGAUAAAUAGAGUAGAAUUACUAUUUAUUCAAAACAUCUCAUGUCAUCAAUUCAAAUCUCAUUGCAGCGGAAAACAUUAAUUAAACAACGUAAUGACACAACGACCUCAACAUAAACAAGUUAUUAAACUCCAUUCUAGGUGGUUCCUCAACAUAAAAUCAUAGAAAUAUGUAACACAAGGAAAACAAGCAAGAUCAUCUCGUUACGUAUCAGAGCGACCCUAAGACGACGCGUGAGAGAGUCGACUCACUUCAACAGCUAUUCCUGGUUAUCUACGCGUUACCCUCGUAGAGGCAAUAUUCAAACAGAAUGGGUGAGAUUUCGCAUCCAAUAAUAAUAAGCAUAUAAUUCAUCAACAUAAUUUAACAACAUAAACAACCACAAUAAAUAAUAUUGAUACUUCACAUAACUUAUCAUUAACAACUCAUUAGUAAUUGACAACUGGACAACAACGACAAUGCGAUAACAUCAACAUCUACUCGACAAUGCAACAACGACAACUUACACAUGAAUGUGGUACCAAUCAGGGCAUCAAACCCCCAACGUAUAGAGAGAAUAGGCUCACAGGGCAUCAAACCCUCAACAUAUAGAGAAAAUAGGCUCACAGGGCAUCAAGCCCCCAACUUAUAGAGCAAAUAGGCUCACAGGGCAUCAAGCCCUCAACUUUAAUGAGUAUGCAUGGACUUAGCAACCAACAACUUAGACAACUUAGACGACUUCAACAACUUAGAACAACAACUUACAACUUGGCGACUUUGACAACAACUUGCAACUUAACGAUAUUAACAAUCAACAACAACAAGGACAACAACAAUAACAACCUGCAACAUUAACCACAACAACUUGAAUGAUAUGAACGACUAUAUUUCUAUAUUAUACAAUAUUCGCAUAAUAUAUGUAUCUCAAAUCAUCCAAAAACAACAUUCAUAUUAAUUCAGACUCACUGAACAACAAUAUAAUUAUAAACCACUUUCAUUCCUACCUGAAAGACUAACUUAGAACGUCACGUGCGACAAGGAUCACAAGAACACUAAACAAGGUUGACUGCCACUGAGUAACUCGCGAGGCGAGCCACUCUACUCGCUAUGCCGAGCUAAAGCUGAUGGCUCUCGGGAGUUUUGACAUUUUUCACUCAAAAAUCUCAUUUUUAACUUCCCUAUGCCCAAAUUUGAUCAAAAACUUUCCUAAUCAUUUCUAAACAUGUUAAUGCACUCAAAACCAUAUAAAACUUUACCCCUAACAUUAAUUCACAAAAUCAUAAUUUUCUCACUGGGUAAUUCGCGAGGCGAAAGAGGUUACUCGCAAUGGCGAGCGAUGAAGAUGAUCACUCGCGAGGCGGGAAGGAUUACUCGCUAUGGCGAGCGAUGACGAUCUGCUCUACGGACAGAACACAAUUUCAGCAAAAAUUUACCUAAUUCCAUAAUUCUAACCUUAAAACUGAUUUUAAUCAUUGCUGUUGUGAUGAAUAUGAUCUACUUUGAUGAUUAAUGUGAGAAUAUUUAUAUAUUGUGAAAGAUGUUGAUAUGAAGUUGUAAUGGUUGUAUUAGAUGAUUAUUGUUGAUGUUGACUUGCUGUAAAUUAUUGAAUGGCGUUGCCUUGCUGAUGUGAUGUAUUAAUAUCAUUAAGAUGCUAAUGUUUAUUUAAGUUGUUUAAGUUGUAAGAUGUUGAUCCAAAUUAUUGGAGUCAUAAGAGAUGUCUAAGUUGUUAAGAUGUUGAGUCCAUUGCAUACUCAUUUACGAUGGGCGAGGGCUUGAUGCUCUGUGAGCCUAUUUACGCUCAAUAAGUUCGGGGCUUGAUGUCCUAGUUGGUACCACAUGCAUGAUUAAGAAGUUGAAGUUGCCUAAGUUGAAUUAAGUUAUGGAAGUUGUAUUGUCGUUGUCGUCGAGUUGUCAUUGUUAAUGAGUUAUUGAUAAAGAACUAAGUGAAGUGUUAAUAUUUAUUAAAUGUUGUUGUUUAUGUUGUUGUGAUAUUAUUAUAAGAUGAUGAAUACGUUGUUGUUUAUGUUGUUGUGAUAGUAUUAUAAGAUGAUGAAUAUGUUGUUGUUUAUGUUGUUGUGAUAUUAAUAUAAAUGAUGAAUAUGUUUCUGUUUAUGUUAUUGUGAUAUUAUUAUAAGAUCAUGAAUACGUUGUUGUUUAUGUUGUUGUGAUAUUAUUAUAAGAUGAUGGAUAAUGCUGUCGUCUAUAUGAUUAUGAAGUGAUGAUUAUGUAGUCUAUGUUGUUGUGAUGUGAAUAUUAUAUUGUGUCUAAUGAGAUGAUGACUAUUCUGUGUGUUAAAGAUGUUAUUUAUGAUGUGAUGAUCUAUGUUGGUUAAGAUUUGGUUGUUAUGUACUAUAUGAUAAUGUUUAUAAUGUGAUGAUUAUGAAGUUAUUUAUGUCGUUAAAAUUAAUUAAUGAAUUAUAUGUUUGAUAUUAUUGUUUUGCGAAAUCUCACCCCUUCUGCUUGAAAAUGUUGCUCUUCGUAUGAGUAACUUGCAGGUGAUCGAGUUAGGUUGCUGUGUUUUGCUGUCGUGAGUGGCUAUCCCUCACUGAGUCGUUUAGGUGCUCUGAUAGGUAAUAGGAUGUGAUCUUUUGUGGCUAUUUUCUAUUCCUUUACGUAUUUGAUUAUGAUUUUAUGAUUAAGUUGUUUAAAUGAAUAAUUAUGAGAUAUUUGAUGAGGCCUGCGUGCCAAGACUUAUUUAUGAUGUUGAAUUAAAUACGCUGCAAUGUUUUGAAAUUGAAUUAUAUUGAAGGAUAAUUAGUUAAUUAUCUCAUUUAUGAUUUUUAGAAGUGUAGCAUUCCGUUUCUAUGCUGAUUACUCUGAUAAUAUGUUUGAAAAUUUUAAGUUAGGAAAACGGGGUGUUACACGAGCGAGAGCAUCUAUCUAGGUUCAAUCUCAUUCUAAUCAUCUAAGGAUCAACUCAAAAGUCAAAAUCACGAAAUUUGGAUAGCUCUAUGGUCAUGCUCGCUAUGGCGAGUUCAUUUGCUCGCUAUGGCGAGCUGCGACGUGCAACUCGCGAGGCGGGUAAGUUGCUCGUGUGGCGAGCGAUGAAGUUCAUCACUCGCUAUGGCGAGGAUCAUAGCUCGGGAGGCGAGCGAUGAAUGUCGCUACGGGCAGAAGUGCGAUUUUUCACAAAAAUCACUAACUCUCAUGGUUUUAAGCCUAAUCUUGAUUCCAGAAUUCAUCAUAAUCAUUAUCUAAGGUCUAGGGACAAUUUCUACAUCAUUCUAACAAGUUUUCACCGUUUAAUCAUCAAUUCCAUCAGUUUUAACCUACUUUUCGAUUUCUCUAAAACUCAUUCUACUUCAUGUUAAACCUAACCAUUGAUUCACAUACUUAACAGAAUUGCAAAGUUAGUCUCACCCUUACCUUAACAAUGAAAAUUGCAGCUCUCUAAGUGCUUCUCCCUUCUCUUAGCUUUUACUCCCUUUUCUUCAAAAUUGAUCGUACGUUAUGUUUUUUCUAAACUAGGUCUCUCCUAUUUAUAAAAAUCCUUAACGUACUUAUUUUUCUCUUAUAUCUCAAAUCUUAAUAUUCUAUUAUAAUAUAUAUAUAUAUAUAUAUAUAUAUAUAUAUAUAUAUAUAUAUAUAUAUAUAUAUAUAUUAUUUCUAUAACGAAUAACAAAUAUAUCUCUAUAAUCAUAUAUAUUUCUACAUUAAAUAACAUAUAUUUCUACAACAAAUCAACAUAUAACUUUACAAAAUAUCACUCAUAAAAAAUAAAUCAUAUAAAUCACACAAAUCAUAUAAGUAUAUUCUAAACUCAUUUAAAUAAUCAAAUAAUUAAAGAGAGCGUUACACCACAUAACCAUUUAAAUCACAUAAAUCAUAUAAAUAGACUAUAAACCCAAUAAAAUAAUUAAAUAAUCAAAUAGGGCGUUACAAUUGACCCCCUAAAGUCCGGAACGAAAAUAAAAGGUGGCUGAAACUGGGCAAGUUCGCUUAAGCGACAACCUUGUUCGCUUAAGUGAACAAGUUCCAGAAGCUACAACAAAAGUUCGCUUCCGGUUCGCUUAAGCGACCCAGUCACAGAACCUAUUGUGAUUGUUCGCUUAAGCGAUCAGUCAUAGUUCUGCAGAAAAAAAAAUUACAGGUUUCAACCCUUUUUCACCCAAAAUUCCAAAUUUUGAUCUCCCCCAAUGCCCAAAUAUGUUUCCAAAGUAGGUUUACAGGUCAAAACAACAAAAAGGGUUCCCAAGCAGACAUCAAACAUGAAAACAAUUGCCAUUUGAACACAAUUCACCAAAUCAACCUAUUUUUACAAAACCAACGACAAUAAUUUAUUUCUCAACAUCAAAUCAUGAUUUAUGAACACCCAAGCCAUGAAUCAUCAACAACAAUAUCUCUUAGCAACAACAACAUCAGUUAAACAUGAUUCUCAUCAUAAUUCAACAACAACAUAACACAAUUCAACAUUUAGAGCAUAAUUCACAAUAUAUCCUGUUCACAUACUAUGAACAUGCAAUUUCACCAACAACAAUUCAAUUAUCAUCAAUUUCAUGUAUUCAAACAUAUCAUCAUAAUUGGAGCACGAAUUUCAACAACUAUGAACAAAAAAUCACUUAUUCAAUUAAGCAUUUAAUCAUGCAAUUAAUGAAAAGUUACAACUAAUUGAUUAUGGUUGAAAUCUAACCCCCUUACCUUAGUUAGUGAACAUCCUAGCCCAAACUUCAAUUUAGCUCUUGGAAAUCUCCACCACCUCUUAGGUCUUCAAGUCUUCUCUCUUCUAACCCUUUUCCUCUUCUCUUGCAUUUUCUCUCUCUCUCUCUCUCUCUCUCUCUCUCUCUCUCUCUCUCUCUCUCUCUCUCUCUCUCUCUCUCUCUCUCUCUCUCUCUCUCUCUCUCUCUCUCUCUCUCUCUCUCUCUCUCUCUCUCCAAAAAUCUCAUGAAAUGAAAAAAUGAAUGCUAUUUUAUCUUAAGACAAGGUUUAUAUAGGCUAUUCUCAAAUGGGCUUAACCCUAAUGCCUUAGUGGGCUUAACCCACCCAAUCACAAUUCUAAAAUGUUUCUACACACUUAACGGUAAAAUACUAACAACGGUCACUUAUCGGCUCACAACUAUUUAUCACACUAGUAACUUAGUAAAAUAAUGGCUCUCACUUGAAACACUAAAAAUACUCCUCACCAAAAAUUACUAAUUUAUCCUUACUCACAAAAUGACCAAAAUACCCACUGAAAGGGAUGCGAUUGGCGACGAUGGAAGUGGUGGUGGGCGGCGAUGGGAGGAGAAGAGAAGCUUCAGAUCACGUUAUUGGGGAAGAGGUGAAUGAAGGAAGAUAAAUUGCAUUUUUUUUUUUAAAGAAGUACUUUAUAAAAUUUUAAAAUAUGUUAAGACAUUUGUUACCUUACCCAACUUGUAGCUUUUGGGAAAGUGACGAGGUCAAGAGAUGAACUGAGUUUUGUACACCUCUAAUCAACUUAUACUCUACGAUCUUAAAUAUUUUUUUUGCAUUGUCAUUCCAUAAAUUUCGGAUUGUUUUUCCAAAUUGAGUCUUAAUUUCUAAGCAAACCAUCUAAAAAGAUACCAAAUAAUUCAGAACGAUUAUUCAAUAAAGUGAUCAAAGUACAUCUUGAAAAACCAUCAAUAAAAGUCAAAUGUGGUUGUUUUAGAUAGAGACCAAAUACAUUUUCCAUUUUUAACUAAGUAGUGUAAAAAUAGUGUUUUUAUUUAAAUUUUUUUUUAAUUUUUUUAUAGAAGUCAAAUGUAUUUGUUCUAAAUAUGAACCAAAUACAUUUUACUUUUUACUUAAAUUUAAGAUGAUAAAACAAUGUUUUUUUUUAGGGGUAGUUGUGUUUUUGAUAAGCAACUUCAAAUAACAUUUGAGCUUUUUAUUUUUUUCUCUAAAUUUUAGCCUAAUUAUCUUUUAAAUAAGUAAAUAAUCCUUAUAAAUAUCUAAAAUUUUGUUUAGUCAUACAGAAAUUACACCUUUUAGUCCUCGUAAGCAUUUUCAUUUAGCAAUUUUAAGGACAAAAAAUAUUGAUGAAUUUUUUUUCAGGAAUUAAAAAUGUUGAUGGAAAAUUUUACAAAGGUUAUAAAUGCUGACAAAUUUUUCUAUGAAGACUAAAACAUACAAUUUUGUUUUGAGGGAUUAAAAACAAAAAAAAUCUAAAAUUUUGUUUUGAGGGAUUAAAAACAAAAAAAUCUAAAUAUUUACAUGGAUCAAUUACUUGAUUAACCCUUAUCUUAAUUGAAAUAUUAAAUUUUUAAUUAAAAAUAGUUUUUUCUACGUCAUUUCAUAUUCAUUAACUAAUUUAAGCACUUAUUUUAUCAAAAGCUACAAAUUCAUUUCACUAUCUUAUAUCAACUACUUUGUCUACCCUAACUAUGAGACCACCUUCUACUUUUUUUUUUUUUUAAUAUAAAGACUAUUUUCAAAAUUCACAUGCACUUAUGUUUUUCUUGCAAAAAUACCCUUAUUUAACUUUUUGAUAAAUAUAUAAAACUAACAUAAAUUUUUGAUAAAUUUUUCACAAUUUUAUUUUAUUUUUUGCAGGAAUUUUUCACUACAAUUAUUUUUCUUAAUACCUAUUAACAUUGUUGGAGGAUCUCUCUCAAAAAUUUGUCAAAGGAGCUUUUUUUUUUCCUAAUAAAAAAAAUUAAAUGAUAAUAAAAAUUUGAGUUUUUCUACUAGCACCCUAGUUAAUCAUGGUUGCACCUCAAAAUAACAAGAUUACCCUUUCAUAAAAUUUCAUCUUAAACUUAGUUGAAGUAGGUCAUAUAAAUUGAGUUUAAGUGUAUAUACUUAAUCUCAGUUUAAGUAGGUUCAUGUAAACUGAGUUUAAGUAGGUCAUGUAAACUGAGUUCAUGUAAACUAAAUUUAAGUAAGUGUACCAACUUAAACUCAGUUUAAGUAGGUUCAUGUAAACUAAGUUUAAGUAGGUCAUGUAAACUUAGUUUAAGUGCACAUCUAAAAGUUCAAUCUUAUUCAAUGAUUAUACGUCAUCUCAGUUUAAGUAUGCACAUGUAAACUCAGUUUAAGUAGGUUCAUGUAAACUUAAUUUAAGUAGGUUCAUGUAAACUCAGUUUAUGUAAGUUAGGUCAUGUACACCCAAUUUAAAUUUAAGUAGGUCAUGUAAACUUAGUUUAAGUAGGUUCAUGUAAACUCAGUUUAAGUAUGUUCAUGUAAACUCAGUUUAAGUUUAAGUAGGUUCAUGUUAACUCAGUUUAAGUAGGUUCAUGUAAACUUAGUUUAAGUAGGUUCAUGUAAACUCAAUUUAAGUAGGUUAAUGUAAACUCAGUUUAAGUUAACCUUGCCAAUGUAAAUUAAAACCGUAAUCGUACAGUGCAUCAGUGCAGUUGAAGGAAAAAAAUUGAAACUAGCAAAUAGAAGAAAAAAUUCACUUACUUAUAUCCAAUUGAGUAUGGAUGAAAAAUAUGUUGAUUCACUCUUUAAUUUUCAUGGGGAUUGAUAUUGAACAUCAAAUUGUUUGAUCGAUCGCUUUGUGGGGUGAAAGAGGGUGAAACUCACUGGCAAUGAAUAAAAUUAGGGUUUUAAGAAAAUUUAUAUAAAAGGACAAUUUUGGUAUUAUCAAAAACUUUUAAGAAAAUUUGGAUGAUUUACUCCAAAUUUAUAUGUAAAAAAAAAAAAAGAAAAAAACACAUUUUCCUUUUAUUUUAUUUUUUUCAAAAUGAUUCCUAGGCAAAUCUCAUGCUUUGCCACGUGAAAAAUUCACACUUCCCAUCAUCACAACAAACACAUACUUUUGUUCCUGUUUUUUUUAACAUUAAAAAAUGGGGCAAUUGUUGAAUUCAUACAAAUAUUCCAUUUGAAACAAAUUUUCAGUUACAACAACUAUCUUCAUCUUCUUCAAUCAUUCUGCUUCCAAUGGAAAACCUUAGAAACAACAAUUCAAUGACGGAAGAAGAAGACGAUCCCGGAAGUGCAUUAUCCUUCGACUCAACCGAAUCAAGAUGGGUUUUUCAAGAAGACGAGGAUCCAUCUGAGAUCGAGGAUUACGAUGCUUCUGAUAUGCGCCAUCAAUCUAUGUUUGAUUCUGAAGAUGAAGAUAAUGCUGAAAUGAAGCUUAUUCGUACUGGUCCUAGAAUUGAUUCGUUUGAUGUUGAAGCUCUUGAGGUUCCUGGUGCUCAUACUCAUCACUAUGAGGUGUGUGGUUUUUUUUUUUGGUAGUUUUUUUAAUGCUUGGUUUUUGUAUUAAUGGAUUGAUUUUUAGUAAUUAUUAGUGAUUAGGUAUUUAAUUAAAUUGUUUCUCAAGUUGUAUUUGUACUAUAUUAUGUUUGAUUCCGCCUUUUGAGGAGUCGAAAUUGAUUCGAGUAAUGUAGAAUUGUUUUUGAGAGAAGACGUAUAGAUUCUAGAGGAGUAGAAUUGAUUUUGGAAGGGGAGAAAUUGAUUCUAGAGGAGUAGAAUUGAUUUUGCUUGUAGAAUUGAUUCUAGUUGAAGCUAGUAGCUUUAGGGUUCUUGUUGUCCGUUUUGAUUGGCUUAUUUUUGAGUUUAUGAAAAAUAGCUUAUGCAAAUAAAUAAGCUUUUAUAUUAAUUCAUAAGCUCUCACUAAAAAAAAUUGUAUAUGCAUAAGCUGUGUUUUCAUAAACUACCUUGACAAGCUUAUGAAUAAUACAUAAAAACUUAUUUAUUUGCAUAAACUGUUUUGCAUAAGCUCAAAAAUAAACCAUUUUACAUCCAACUCACUUUUACUCAAAAUCAAUUUAUUCAAUAUCAAUUCUCACAACCGUAGAACCAAACACACCUAAGGAGAGUAGAUCAAAUGAAAGAUAACCAAAGGUAGAGGAAGAUCUAGAAAAACUAUAAGAGAAACUAUUAAGAAAGAUUUAGAGAUUAACAAGUUGGACUGAAACCUGGUUUACGAUAGAACAUUAUGGCGUAAUUUGAUCCAUGUAGCCAACCUCACUUGGUGGGAUAAGCCUUGGUUGUUGUUGUUGUUGGUGUAUUUUGACAUGUUUGAUUGUUCUCUAGUAGAAUUGAUUUUGCCUCAAGAAUUGAUUUUAACUUGAAGCCAGAAUCUUUUGGCUUCCAGAAUUGAUUUUUUGCCUUGAAUUUAUUUUUCAACUCACUUUUGCAUCAAUGAUGUAUCCACACAUAAACCACUUUACAUUCAAAAUUAAUUUGUGUCACCGCGUAGAACCAAACAUACUUUUAGUGUAUGUUUACUUCCACUUUUUGAGGAGUCAAAAUUGAUUCUAGUAGUGUAGAAUUGAUUUUGACAUGUUUGGUUGUUCUCGAGCAGAAUUGAUUUUGUCUCAAGAAUUGAUUUUAACUUGAAGCUAAAAAUCGUAGCUUUUGGCUUCUAGAAUUGAUUUUUAUCUUUGAAUUUAUUUUUUAACUCAUUUUUGCAUGAAUGAAUGUAUCCAAACAUAAAUUACUUCACAUUCAACUCACUUAUAGUCAAAAUCAAUUUUACAUAAUCAAUUCAUUCAAAAUCAUUCAGAACUAAACACACACUGUGCUGAUCAUAAGAUUCGUUAUGCAGCUGUGAUGUGAAUUCUGCUAGUGUGUAUGGUUUUACAGUAGUGAGAGCCAAAAGUGAGUCCAAACAUAUUAAAUUGAUUCAACAUGUUUGGGUGAUGUCUAUUGGAAUUGAUUUUUCCCUAGAAUUGAUUCUAACUUGAAGCUAAGAUUUGUCGUUUUUAACUCAAAACGUGAUUUUUACACUCAAAUUUAAUGUUUAACUCACUUUACGCGAAUGUAUGUAAACAUAAACCACUUCACAUUCAAUUCACUUUUAACUGAAAUAAAGUUACAAAAUCAAUUUUUGUCAGUUUUAGUAUUUUUUUGUAUCUAUUUUCUUCAUUGUGUUUUGUUGUUGCAGGAUAUGACCACGGGAAAGAAAAUUGUGUUGGCUUUUCAAACUCUUGGUGUUGUCUUUGGUGAUGUUGGAACAAGCCCAUUAUAUACCUUCAGUGUUAUGUUUAGAAAGGCACCUAUUAAUGACAAUGAAGACAUUCUUGGAGCAUUAUCACUUGUCUUGUACACUUUAAUCUUGAUUCCUUUCCUCAAAUAUGUUCUUGUCGUUCUCUGGGCCAAUGAUGACGGCGAAGGUAUGGUGGUGAAUUUAGUCUUUUAAAGAUAAAAUAUUUCUUUCUCAUUUCCUCUUAUAUACUCUAUCUUUGGUUUUGUUUAUAGUUGUUUUGAAACCAUUGCAGGUGGUACAUUUGCAUUGUAUUCCUUGAUUUGUCGAAAUGCUAAGGUGAAUCUUCUUCCCAAUCAGUUGCCGUCAGAUGCCCGUAUAUCAGGCUUUAGGCUAAAGGUUCCGUCUGCUGAGCUUGAAAGGUCUUUAAAACUCAAGGAAAGGCUGGAGUCUUCAUUCACUCUGAAGAAGAUUCUGCUAUUAUUAGUUCUUGCUGGUACUUCUAUGGUGAUAGCUAAUGGGGUUGUUACACCAGCAAUGUCAGGUUACUUACUGCUCUAGUAUCAUGUAUUGUGUAACUUCUACACAAAUGCUUUUGUCAUAGUAUGUUUAGAAUUCAGAUUGAUAGAUAUAUCAUGCUUGUAAAUUCUGAUGACAUCUUGCUGCUUGUGUUCAUGGCCAGCUGUUGUUUUCAAUAAGCUCUUGUUUACUUCAUAUUGAUUCUUACUUUACAAAAUUUUCUUCUUGCAGUACUAUCAUCUGUUAAUGGCUUGAAGGUUGGGGUAGAUGCAAUUCAACAAGGUAUUGUGUUAACCUAUUAACAAGCUCUUGUGCGUUAAUACCUGCAUUUGAUAUUACCCACAGACACAUUAUGAUCAUAGCAUAUCUUUUGUCUUUCUUUCUACUUAGAAAUUAAUAAUUUUUGCUUCUCCAUUAAUAGCACUAGCUUUCGAGGUAUUAUUUUGGUGUGUAAAGUUGCCUGAACUAUGCUUUGGUCCAUUGGUGAGAAAAUUCAGUUAUGUGUUGAUAGGGUGCUUAUGCUUUGUAUAUUAAUUCAACCUAAGUGUGUACAGGAUGCCGUUCCUAUAGUUUAGGCAAAUCUGGUGGAAACUGGGAAAAAUUGGUUAAAUAUUUCAAUUUUAGAAUUACUUAUGUAGCUGGAUUAAUUUUUUCUACUUUUUCAUUGAUUAUGCAGAUGAAGUGGUGAUGAUUUCUGUUGCUUGCCUUGUCGUUUUGUUCAGUUUACAGAAGUAUGGAACAAGUAAAGUUGGGCUUGCUGUAGGACCUGCAUUGUUUAUAUGGUUCUGUUCUCUUGCGGGCAAUGGUGUAUACAAUCUUGUCAAAUAUGACAGCAGCGUUUUUAGGGCUUUUAAUCCUAUUCACAUCUAUUAUUUCUUUGCAAGGAAUUCAACUAAAGCAUGGUAUUCUCUUGGGGGCUGUCUUCUGUGUGCAACUGGUAAACACAUAUGCAGAAUCAUUGAUAUGGUAGAUGUGAUAAUAUAUAUUCUCUCUUGUCGUGUAUAUUUUGAUUCUAUUGAUGUCUCUGUUUUUCUCUAUUUUUAAACCAAUGUGCUGGUAGCAAUUACAAUGGCUAAUUUUGAUUUUUCCAUUUACUAUCUGAAGUUUAAUGAAAUGCCUACUGGCAUCUAUCAUGAUUUUGAGAUUCAAUGGAGUUUGGGACCUGAGUCUUUCUUUUCUUUGGUGCUUGAAAAAAGAUUCAGGUUUAAGUGCUUAAGUAUUGAUAGUUAAGAGUACCACUGAUCAACUUGGUAACAUGUCUUGCAUGAAUGAUCAAGGAAUAUAGGCUUCAAACCAUAUAUUGUCUUUGAAUUUAAAACACGCAAGAAAUCACCAGACCAUACAACAAAAAGUUUGAAAGCAAAAAAAUGAAAUGUAGUUUUUUAGCUGGUUUACUGUUUUUUUUUUUUUAACGACAAAUGUUUGUUUUGUUAAUAUUUAUGUUGGGAUGGAUGGGUGGCAGCUGGUUUACUAUAUAGGAGGGACUGCAUUUUUCUGUUAUAGCAGUCUGAGUAUGCAGAGACUAGCUGCUACCCAAAAAUGGGAUGCAUAUGAGCACCUGAGUGAUGCAAUGUGUAGCCGCUAUAGUGUUGCUUUUGUGUGCCAUAGAUGAUUCAUUAUUCUGAAUAAAAUACCCUGUCAUAGUGGUGACAUGCAUCUAGUAUAGAAAAGCAGGAGUAUUGAUUUGUGGGUUGGUUAGUUUUUUAUUUGAUUACCUGCUUGGGUAAACAGCUUACCCUGUUAUCAUAAUAAACGCUUAAGUAUAUGCUUGCAUAAGCUAUUUUUAUAGCAAAAGAUAAAAUAGCGUUAAAUUGUUUCUGUAUGUGCUAUAAGUUGUUUACAUAAGCUAUAUUGGAGAACUUAUGAAAAUAAGUUGAAAAAAACACAUGAACAUUGUCAUAAGCUGUUUUCAUAAGUUCUCCCAAACGGUCUCACAAAACUUUGCUAGUAGAUAAGCCCAAAUAAACCACAAUCCAGACAGGCCUGUGAAAUUCAUGGAAAAAUUAUACUAUUGUUUGAGAAACAUGUAUUAUUCCCAUUAGAGUUGGCUGAAUUAGUAUGAUUAGAUAGUGUCGAUAAAAUGGUAGUUUUGAUUCUAGCCAGUGGUCUUUCGUUGAUAGGUCAUUUGUAAGUACCACUGUAAGCUUUUGAUGAGGGAUAUGGGCAUCCAGACCUUGUAGCAAGAGACAAACUCCCCUUAAGGCUGUAUUUUGGAUUGUUUGAAAUAAGAUGAACUGUAAUAAAAUCUUAUGGGACAUAUUGCAUUCUAUUUCAUAGGCCACCUCUAUCUUUCUCUGCUCUUCUUGGGGUAUGUAAUUGAAAAAAAAUAAUAUUUAUUAAUCUUGUUGUCUACCCGUCUACUUUUUAUACAAUGGUAUGAAAAUUUAAACCCGUUUAUCAUAAAAAUAUAUCUAGACAAUGGUGUGAAAAAUUAUUUCAUUCAACUCCACUCUAAUCUAUUCCAUUCUACCCCAUCAUUAAAUAUCCUAACACAGUCUGAUUUUUGUACGCCAAACAAAAAAGCUAUUACAUUAUCCUCCCCAUCACGUUGAUGUUGAGAUGCGGUAAAUAUGUAUUUUUGAUUUAACUGUUGCUGGCAUGCACAAAUCCCAUCCACUAUGAAUUAACAUUGUUAUUGGAUCAUGUUACAGGCUCUGAAGCCAUGUUUGCAGAUCUUUGCUACUUCUCUGUUCGAUCAGUUCAGGUAAUGAAUCAUGUCUAUGUUUUAUCUAUCAUGGCUUCUGGUUGGAAUUCUUUCACAUCUUUUGUCAUAUCAACUUAUAUAUUGAUGAAACUGAUGGUGGUUUGUUUGCAGAUUACAUUUUUAUUUCUUGUUUUGCCGUGCCUAUUAUUGGGUUAUUUGGGUCAAGCUGCAUACCUUAUGGAACACCAUGCUGAUGCUGGUGAAGCCUUUUUUUCUUCUGUUCCAAGUAGGUGUCAGUAUGUUUGCAUGCUUUACAAUGGCUCGUCUCUGCACUUCCCAUAAACUUCGGUGUAAUACUAUUCUUUAUUUGCAGGUGGUGCAUUCUGGCCAACUUUUCUCAUCGCCAACAUUGCUGCACUAAUUGCAAGUCGGACUAUGACAACAGCUACAUUUUCUUGCAUAAAACAGUCAACUGCUCUUGGUUGUUUCCCUCGACUUAAAAUAAUUCACACCUCUCGUAAAUUUAUGGGUCAAAUCUAUAUCCCUGUCAUAAACUGGUUCCUGUUGGCUGUUUCUCUGGUGUUCGUCUGCACUAUAUCCAGCAUUGAUGAGAUUGGAAAUGCAUAUGGUAAUUCUUUUAUUUCAAAAUAUUUAUUUUAUCUUGAUAAAUUUUUCAAAUUUAUCAGCCGCAUGCAUUAAAUACUUGUCAAAUUGUAAGUUUAGUGGGAUCGACUAUGUAGAAUAGAUUGCUCGAGAAGCUUAUGGGGCUGCAAUUAACUGGAAAGGCACUGAGCUUCACUCUUGAUAUUUCUCUUUGGAAAUUCUUGAAUAUAGUCCAAGAAUACUAAUAGUGUCGGUGGAUCCUUGUUUAAGAGGACCCAAUUAGCUUUUGCUGGUUGACCUGAAUUUACACCAGUAUCAUAAAUUUACCUAGCUUAGAUACCAUAGAAAUCUGCUGAAUGUGUGAAAAUGUUCAUUUAGCAGUUUUUCAAACACUGGCUGUAUGCUCAGAAAAUAUGAUGUCAGUAUAGGUAUACAUGGUUUCAUCCAACAAUUCUAUUCCAAAUGGACGAGAUCAAGCAUUGCCUCCUCCCCAAGAUUUCAUAAUGGUUCGGGUGGAAGAGAGGUUUCCCAGUUCCAAGGUUAAGACCAUGGUUUCAAAUUGUGGUCGGUAUCAGCAAUUGUGGCUGCAGUAUUGCUGUUGUAUCCUCCGCAACGGCUUCGCACCGCAAUUGCAGUGGGAUCUCCAGUCACAUGUACAACCACAUCGUAACCGCAUCACAUAAAGUUCAAUAACUAAUAUAUUUUGGCCAUGUUUUUCCGAAUCAUCUGACUAAAAAUUAAAUUUUAGAACCCCGAAUCCCAAUCUGCUUUAGAUCUAAUGAAAAUCUUACCUUAACAAUUUCUCAACUGUGUAUUUCAAGGACUUCCCAACCAGUAUUUACAGAGAAAAUUGAGUCUCUGCUAUGGUGGGUAAGUAGUGUAGUGGGUGAAAAUUUAAAAUUAUUUCACGCCACAAAGUGUCGCAGCAACAACAAUGACUGCGAUCGCAACGACCGCAGCCACAAUUCAAAACCAUGGUUAGAACAUGCGGCAUGCUUCAACAAGUGUUAGGCUCUGAUACCAAUCAAAACCCAAGACCUUUUAUUUGUAUGCUACUCGAUCCUACUGGUUUAACCAAUUCUCAUUGGCAAAACAUUUCUUAUUUAUCCAGGGAAAAGCUUUAACCUCGCGGUUUGAGCUUGUAAAAUGAAUAUGUCGAUAAUAAUUGGAUCAUGCAAGCUUAGAUAGGGGAAGACAGUUUUUUCUUUGGUUCUAACUAAAACACUGAAUUUCUUCAAUAUUGUUGUAAUAUAUUAUAUAUGAAAAUGUAUUUGUUUUCAGCCUGUUCCUUUGUCAUCUUUCAGGCAUUGCUGAGCUGGGGGUGAUGAUGAUGACCACCAUUUUAGUUACUCUUGUUAUGCUUCUUAUAUGGCAGAUGCACAUCAUCAUAGUGAUGAGUUUCCUGGGAGUCUUCUUGGGUUUAGAGUUGGUUUUCUUUUCAUCGGUUUUGUGGAGCAUAACAGAUGGAAGUUGGAUUAUAUUGGUCUUUGCUGCAAUUAUGUUUUUUAUAAUGUUCAUAUGGAACUAUGGAAGCAAGCUCAAGUAUGAAACUGAAGUCAAACAAAAGUUGUCACCGGAUUUAAUGCGAGAAUUGGGCUGCAAUCUUGGGACAAUACGAGCUCCUGGAAUUGGUCUACUUUAUAAUGAGUUAGUCAAAGGAAUUCCAGGAAUUUUUGGGCAUUUUCUAACGACACUUCCAGCAAUACAUUCCAUGAUAAUAUUCGUGAGUAUCAAGUACGUUCCAGUUGCUAUGGUGCCUCAAAGUGAAAGGUUUCUAUUUCGGCGUGUUUGCCAAAGAAGCUAUCAUUUAUUUCGUUGUAUUGCCAGGUAAUAAGUGCUAUAAGUGCAUAUUACUUUUUAGAAACAUGCUAAUAGUGCUAUAGCUUCAAAUCUCCCUCUCUCCCCCCCUCUCUCUGGAAUAGGUUAGGAAACAAUUUGGGAAAAUUUAACAAAGAUAUUAGUAGCUCUUUGGGGUAGUUUGUUAGUUCAUGAGGAUGCAAUAUUUUCAUCUGAGACACCGUGUCUUGUAGUUUUGUGCUGACCCCACUUAGUGGGAUAAGGCUUGGUUGUUGUUGUUGUUGUACCGUGUUUUGUAAUUUUGUCUUUGUCAUUAAAAUGUUUCUUUAUCUUACGUGUCUGAUCUGAACAUUUAUAUCUCACAGGUAUGGUUACAAAGAUGCUCGCAAAGAAAAUCACCAGGCUUUUGAACAGCUUCUAAUGGAGAGCUUAGAGAAGUUUAUACGUCGCGAGGCACAGGAGAGAUCACUGGAAAGUGAUGGGGAUGAGGAUACUGAAUUGGAGGACGAGUACGCUGGUUCUAGAGUUCUCAUAGCUCCAAAUGGAAGUGUUUACUCACUUGGUGUUCCCCUUCUGGCUGAUUUUAAUGAAUCAUUCAUGCCCAGUUUUGAACCCAGCACAUCAGAAGAGGCAGGCCCUCCGUCUCCCAAACCCCUUGUGCUCGAUGCAGAGCAACUUCUGGAAAGAGAGUUAUCUUUUAUACGCAAUGCUAAAGAAUCUGGAUUGGUUUAUCUUCUUGGUCAUGGAGAUAUAAGGGCAAGGAAAGACUCUUGGUUUAUUAAGAAGCUAGUUAUAAACUAUUUUUAUGCCUUCCUGAGAAAGAACUGCAGAAGGGGGGUCACAAAUUUAAGCGUACCGCAUUCACAUCUAAUGCAGGUUGGAAUGACUUACAUGGUUUGACUUUGACCAUCAAUUUUGCAAUCCAAUAAUAUCCCCGCAUUGAACAUCGUUCCAGCUCUACCUUUGGAAAUUGUUUCAACUUUCCUUAUGAGCAUGAGCAUGUGCCGCGGAUAUAUGGAAUUGAAAUAGGCCAAGAACAGAAAUAGACAGAUACAUGUAGAAUUUGGACAAAAAAAAGAUAUAUGUAAAAUUAUAUUAUCAAAAGAAAAAAGAACCUGCAAAUGGCUAUGCACACAUUUCCUUAUGAGUAUGAAUAUGUUUAACAGAGUUUUGUACAUGGGAAGACCUAUCUAGACUAAUUUUAUUUUCAUUUGCAUUAAUUGUUUGCCUGAUCUCUUUUGAAGAGACCUUCUGUUGAUUGAAGCUUAAUUGAGAUUAUAUUUUCUUUUUGAAAUAUUACAUCGUGCCUUUCCCUUGGCAUUAUAACUAUAAAUUUAUGAUUGACAAAAACUUUUCUGACACUAGUUUACUCAUUGGAAUUGAGAAAGGACAGGAGGAAUCAAAACUUUUGGUGGGAUGGAAGUAUUGGUAGAUCUAGAAAUGUAUGUAACUUUUUUUGUUCACUAGAAUGUAUCCAACUUGAAACUAUUAUUAACUAAUCAAUGAAAGAAAAAUACAAUCAGGCACAAGACAAGAGGUGCAUAUCUCAACACUAAUAUAGGGUCCGUUUGUUUCAGAUUUUUUCCCUUAAAAAAAAAUCACUUUUUUCAUUUUUAAGUGUUUGUUUAGGAUUUUUAGAAAAAUCAUUUUAUCAAAAAAAUCUAUUUUGACCCUAAAAUGAAAAGCUAUUAGGAUUAGCUUUUCUCAAAAUCUAUUUUUUUUAACAAGGAGAUAACACAUGUGCAUGUUAUAACUUAUUUUAAAAUAAAAAUAAAAAGGAUUUUUAUGGAUAGUAGGCAAACACAAAUAACUUCAGAUUUUUUUUAAAAUCUCUAAAAAAAAUCUCUAAAUUCUUUUGAUAUAAAAUCCAUUUUUUUUUUUAAAACUGAAACAAACGCAUCCAUACUCCACUACCCCUAUUUCGAAUACAACAAAUUAAGGCAUUUCUGGUAACUGAUUCCAUUAAUCUCUAUCCAAGCCAAACUAUUAUCAAGUCCUUAACUCCAUUCUGCCAAGCAUCAAUCCUGUUGAUAGAUGAUAACAAACACCACCACCAACUCAUUGAUUUGAUGAGAUAUUGUGUAAUGAGUACUGGUAAACUUUCAGGAUAUAAAAUGCAGAUUGAAAGUACAUUUUAUUUAUUGAAGAAUUCCGACACGAAUUGAAAGUUUAGACAACAAAGGCUAGCUAGAAAAUAGAAAUCACUAUUUGAUAAAAAAAAUCGAUAAAAACAUGACUCAAUGAUAACCAAUAGGAGCUGGAGCCUCUUUCAGUUCUUUUCCUUGAUGGUGAAUAUCCUACAAAAAGAUGAACACAACAUUCAGAGCAAAUGAAGAGGAAAGAAAUUAAAAUCAAGAGUGUUUUAAACAAAUUAUAAUGACUUAAAAAAGUUUUUCAUCCUUUUUUUAGACUAAGAUAAUAUAUUUAUAGAGACGAAAAACACAUUUAACAAAAUUAAAAUUGACAGAUUAAAAAAUAAAUAAUUACGAUUGACACUCACCGAAGCAAAGUGAUUGACAUCCCUAUGAUGAGCCUCAUCAGCACGAAUAACAGUGAUAACAUCCUUAAGAGUUGCAUCCUUAGGAAGUCUCCAAUAAUCAAUUGCAAUAGCAGGAGCAGGUACAUUUUCAACUUUACCACUCUCAAUUGCAUUCAAAUGUUGUGUAUAUGAAAUCACAGCUUCCUCCUCUAAAUAACCAACAAACCUGUGUGCAGUUUUUGGUGAGAGUAUGUAAAAAACAAAGAAUGCAUUGAAGAAAACUCCUUGUGCAGUAAUAACCAAAAGCCUUUCAUGCCAACUUGGUUUUACAAGCUCUACCAUUGUCAUCAAAUGCAUCCUCUCAUUCUCUGCUUCUUCAAGUAAUGCUUUGAUCCAACCACCAGUGUGUUGAAAUUUUCUUAGAGACUUCAAGUGUAAAAGCAUCCCUCCCACCAUUGGCGGGACGGCUGCAAUUGUUUCCAGCAUCAUUGCAUGGCAUCCGUACCGUUCCUGCAGCAGUUAUAUUUCAGAUUAAUCAAACCCAUCAAUCAAAAUUCUUCUAUGUAUCAAGUUACACUUCACUACAACACAUCGAAUUACUAGGGAAUUAAAUUUUCUUUUGUUGUCUCAACACUCUCGUUCCUAGCGGGAAUAGGCUAUGGUAAUUUAGUGUUCGGUCCAAAAGUAAGUAAAUUCUAGUAAAAAGUUGUUCUAGUCAGAAUCGAAACAAGUGAAUCAAUAAGUUACCACUAAGAAUAAAUUUUGUUAUGGAUAGAAAUAUAUGUUAUGUAGCAGUAGAUAAGCCCACAAACCUUGAAAUACAAAUCAGAGAGAACCCUUAGAAACUUGACAGAUCUGAAAGCAAACUUGUCCCCAAAUGUUUUUGGUACAUGAUGCUUGGUCACAUCUAUUGACACAUCUGAGCUGUAACUUUCCCAUGGCUGCACCAGACAUCAUACAUAGAGAACAUAUAGUAUGAGACAUUAUCGAAAUACAAUACUGUUAGAUCAACAUUGAAUUUCAUUGAUCUAAUGCUUAAAUCAAAAGUUUUUAUCGAAUAGCUCAGCUCGACAAAUUUGAAUAAAAUUACUUGAUGCUCUAUUGAAUAAAUUCAAAUCAACAUAUAAUAUAAAUAAGUCUAUCUACAAAUUUUAGGUUCAUAAGAUUUUUUUUGUGUAUGAUCAUUAACAUAAAUAAAUUCAACAUUUAUAAUGAAUUAUUAAGCAGAAUAACUCAGUUCAGAUUUACUUAUGCAUACAUUAAUUUUGAUACCUCCUCUAUAUAGUAUAUAUUCUUACCAUGAAACAGUUCCAUGGCCACUCAGUUCCAUCCUCCCUUUUAACCUUGGGCCUAGUGAUUCCCCAGUAACUCGAAACGACGGUGUUGCUGUCAUUACUGUUCUUAUUCUCCUCUGAAUGCUGAUCCUUUUUCUCUGGCAGAGUUGACAUCUUCUGCCAGUAGAAGCUUCCACGAGUGCCACCGCCAUUCUGGUGUCUCGGCUGAACUAUCACCGCAGUUGAGAAGCUGCAGUGAUAGUUGCGACUACUGUGGAACAGAGCUCGUGCCGUUGACCUUAGUAAAGAGUUUUUCAUGUAGAAUGUUUUUGAAUGAGUUCUUGGAUGAAAAUAGUAGCUCAGAAGUCAGAAGUGGAGAUUUAUAACAAGGAGUGGAGAAUAUAUUAAUAAUUUAAUAUAUAGUUUUUGUAUUAAAUUUUGUAUUCGUCACAAAGGGAAGAAGAAAGGUAGUGGAAGGUCUCAACAAUGUGGUUUUGUUGCUUUCCAUGUUUAAUUAUUCGUUAAAUUAGUGAUUGAUUAGUACUUACUACAAAGUUGGAAUUGAAAAUGUUAGCAGCCACUAGCUUUUUGGAAUUUUCUCUUCCUUGAUCCCAUUCUUAAUUAUAAGAUUCUUUAAAAGAUUUAUUUAUCCUUAAAUAUAAGAUGAUCCAUUAGAUUCAUUUUUUAAAUAUAUCUCGUAGGACUACAUCAAACUAAGUUAACUCCAAAAUACUCACUACCCUUAUUUUGAAUACAAUAAAUUAAUUUUACUAAUAAUUGAUUCCAUUAAUCUCUCUCCAAAGCCAAACUAAUAUUGAUUUUACUAAUUCCAUUCUGUGAAGCAUCAAACGUGUAGAUACAUGAUCAUCACCAAGACCACCAAACAAUUCCUUGAUUGGGUGAGAUAUUGUGUAUUGAUAAACUUUCAGGUUACAAAAUGCACACUGAAAAUACAUUUUAUUUAUUGAACAAUUCAAGCACAAAUUGAAAGUUUAGAGACAAAAAAGGCUAGAAAAAAGAAAUUACUAUAUUUUGAUAAUUUUUUUUUGACAAAAACAGUGACUCAAUGAUAACCAACAGGAGCUGGAGCCUCUUUCAAUUCUUUUCCUUGAUGGUGAAUAUCCUACAAAAAGAAGAACACAACAUUCAGAACAAUUUAUAAUGGGUCAAAUAUAUUUAUGAAUUCAAUUGCAUGCAGUCAACAAUCCUUUGCAUUCACGCAGUUGACACAUACUUGACCAUUGAGUCGAGAAAGGAUAUGACGAUCCAUAAUUCAAUGCCCAUUUUAAUAUUUAUAAAAUUUAAAAUAUCGAUCUUAAAAUUUGAAUGGUCUAAUCUCAAUCCAACAUCCACAAAAGGACCGACUGUGUGAACGCGGAGAUUACCUAUCGUAGUUAAUUCAAAUUCUAUAUUUAUAGAGGGAUAUGAAAACAUAUUUAUCACAAUUAUAAUGAAAAUAUGGCAGACUUACAGAAGCAAAGUGAUUGACAUCCCUAUGAUGAGCCUCAUCAGCACGAAUAACAGUGACAACAUCCUUAAGAGUUGCAUCAUUUGGAAGUCUCCAAUAAUCAAUAGCAAUAGCAGGAGCAGGUACAUUUUCAACUUUACCACUUUCAAUUGCAUUCAGAUAUUGUGUGUAUGAAAUCACAGCUUCCUCCUCUAAAUAACCAACAAACCUAUGUGCUAUUUUUGGUGAGAGGAUGUAAAACACAAAGAAUCCAUUAAAGAAAACACCUUGUGCAGUAAUAACCAAAAGCCUCUCAUGCCAACUUGGUUUCACAAGCUCAACCAUUGUCAUCAAAUGCAUCCUUUCAUUCUCUGCUUCUUCAAGUAAUGCUUUGAUCCAACCACCGGCAUGUUGAAAUUUUCUUAGAGAUUUUAAGUGUAAAAGCAUCCCUCCCACCAUUCCAGGGACCGCUGCUAUUGUUUCUAGCAUCAUUGCAUGGCAACCAUAUCGUUCCUGCAAUAAUUAUAAUUCAAAUUAAUCAAUAAUUUAAUUUUGAUACAUUGUGUCGCUGUAAAAAAGUUUCGUAGAGGCUGAACUUGGAAUAACCAAGUCUCUUCUUCUCAUGUAAACCAAUCCGAUUUACUACAACACAUUACAUUGUUUUUUGGUCUUGACAAUCCGAUUUUUUCACGGAAAAAGUCCUUACCUGGUAGUAAUCCAAAGUCGGACAACGGAUUUUUUGGUCUUCAUGAAGCACCCUAAGUAAUUUUUAUGUUUCAUUUAUAUUUUAUAUAUAUAGUUGAUGGAUAGAAUUAUAUUUUAUGUAGCAGUAGAUAUUCCACAUACCUUGAAAUACAAAUCAGAGAGCACUCUUAGAAACUUGACAGAUCUGAAAGCAAACUUGUCCCCAAAUGUUUUUGGUACAUGAUGCUUGGUCACAUCUAUUGACACAUCUGAACUGUAACUUUCCCACGGCUGCGAAAAAAGAUCGUAUGAGAAAUCAUCCAAAUACAACAGCAUGCAAGAUCAAGUAACUCAUGCCCUAGAAUUAACUUUAAGAUAUUGUUUGAAAGAAUUUAUGAAAACAGUCAGUGAUUUUGUUCAAAAGUUGUUCAACUUAUUUUUAUAAGUUCUUCAAAAUAGUUAAUAAAAAUAUUUACUAGCUUAUACAAAAAUAAUUUAACUUUAUUUUACUUUUUGCUAAAGAAAUAGCUUAGUAAGUUGCAAAUAUCUAAAUCAAUUUAGAGUUAAUACCUCUUUCUAUAUAUGUAUUCUUACCAUGAAGCAGUUCCAUGGCCACUCAGUUCCAUCUUCCUUAAGAACCUUAGGCCUACUGAUACCCCAGUAACUCGAAACGACGGCGUUGUGGUUGGCAUCUUUUUUGCUCUCCUCUGUCUGCUGAUCCUUUUUCUCUGGCAAAGUUGACAUCCUCUGCCAGUACAAGUUUCCACAAGCACCGCCGCCAUGCUGGUGGUGUCUCGGCUGAACUAUCACCGCAGUUGAGAAGCUGCGGUGGUAGUUCCCACCAUUGCGGAACAAAGCUCGUGCAGUUGACCUUAAUAAAAUGUUUCUCAUGUUGAAUGUAAAUGUUUUAUGACUAUUUCGAUGAAAACGAAUUGAAGACUUAUAUUUAUACAAGCAACAAAUUUAGGAGUGUGUAUUAAUAAUUUAACAUAUAGUUUUCGUAUUCAACUUUGUAUUUGCCACAAGGACAAGGUAACUCCAAGAAGAAAGGUCGUGGAAGGUUUCAUGUGGUUUUGUUACUUUAGAUGUUAAAUUAUUGAAUUGAAUUUGCAUCAGUGGUUGUUGAUUAGUUGCCACAAAGUUGGAAUUGAAUAUGUUCAGUCAGCGUUGCCACUAAGGCUUUUGUGGACUUUUCACCUCCUUUGAUUAUUAUUGUAACUAUUUUCUUUUUGACUAGAUUAUUACUGCUUCUAUUAUUUUUGUUCAAUUCAAUUCAAUGGUUACUUUCUUUAGCGUGAUGCAAAUGUAACGCAAUAUCCCCAAGGAAGAAGGAACUAGAAUCUUGGGAAUAGUCUAAAUGCUGUUUUUUCUUUUGACUUUAGAGGAAAAUUCAUCAAAGGACGGUUUCAAGAGAAUUAUUACAAUUUACAAUCAAUUUGAAACCACAUUAUUUGUUAUUGCAUUACUUUUUUUUUGAACAAGCAUUAUUGCAGUACUUAAAUAUGUGUUUGUAUUUUUUAUUUUUUUGCAAAUACGUUUUUGUAAUGUUUCUUUUACUGAAUUUGUACAUGUAUUUUUCUUUAUUUUUGUCUUUAUCUACUUGAUAUUAAGUUCAUUAUAGAUAUCUGUUUCUAAAAUGCUGUUGAAGUUUGGAGUGGCGUUGUAUUUUUUAAAGAUGAGACGAAGAAUCAUGGUACCGUGAAAGCUAUGAAACAAAGGUUCUCUAUUUUCACGAAAGUAGCUCUUUUAGACGUGAAUUUGUCUUUUUCAUCGUCAACUCUUACUAUCCUUGGUGGAUAAAUCAGUUUUGGCAAAGAUAUUGCAAUCGUUUGGAGUUUUAACCUAACCAUAGAUUGAUUUACACAAAUUUGAGAAUUAGUGAGAUUAAUGAUCACUAAGAUUAUAAAUAUUUGUUUAAAUUAAUCAUUAUGAGAGCAUCCUAUUCUUUAUUAUAAACUCAUUUGUUAUAAUUAGGUUAGUUUAUCGGUCAAAUUAUAGAUAUAAGUCGACUAAGUUGAUUCACUUAUGAUGUAAAAGAUUCAAAUCUCAUUGUCAGAAUGAAAACUUCUUUAAUGAAUAACUUGUAAGUAUAUUUUUGAGUCUUAAAAUUUGUUGUGACCCUGAUUAACCCAAAUUCUAAUCCACGAAACGAAAUGACAAUCACCAUUAAAAAUUUACACACAUAAAUAGAAGACCCUAACUUUGAUCCAAUCACUUACAUCUACUCUAACAAUUUCAACAUUUUUGUUAGUUGAAUUAAUUUUUUUGGACCGUGUAUAUUUAUUUAAAGGGUCUUGUUAAUGAAUGCUCUCGAAACCUUAUAUAAAGAUUUAAAAAAAAAAAAUUAUUUUAUUAAAAUGUCAAAACAUUUCGAUUUCUAAUGCAUUGGUUAAAAAAAAAAUGUAUUUCGUAAAAAAUUAUCAUUUCCCUUAUCUUAUUUGAAUAAAUGGGAAAGUAUUUUUUUGAGUGUAUCUCCAAAACUGGAAAAACACCUCCCCAGGCUUAAAAAUCAAAACCCUUUCUGCCCAAAACCCAGUGGCAGAGCAUAUCAGAGCUGAGCAGUGUCACUCUACAAAUCUAUAUCUAACAUACUCAACUGCCACCGUCGAUUCUCGAACCUUCCAAUUCUUCCCACCCCCGUCACAAACGAUGUCGGAAUCAAUUUGCAGAUCCUUACGCGACGGCGCGUUAGAAGGAGAACUCUCUCCCACUCUCACUAUCAAAGACACUCUCUCUUCACCUUUCGCAUUCAACGUUUUCUCUCACAUUCUUCUUCAACUUUCCUCACCAAAAUCUCACUCCAACACUGCUAUUCUCAUCGUUGCACUUUCUCGGAGUCCCUCAUUUUAUGCUCAUUUGUUGAAAAACAAGGGAAUCGAACUUUCUUCUUCUAACAAAUGGUAAUUAUGUUCAAUUUUUAACUUCCUUCUUGUUUUAUAUUUCUGGUUUUUACUGUUUACUCUCUAUUAAAAUUUUCAAUUUUCAUUUUUAAUGUGGAGAUUGAAAUGACAUUUAGGCUCUGUUUGUUAAAAAGUAUAGAUAGUUGAUAGUGGAUGAACUUAUAAGUGAAUUGAAUUUGUAGUAAUUGAUUAAGAUAGUUCAAACAAGCUGUUGAACUAGCUGUUAAAUUUAUUAUUUUUUUAUUAACGUUAGAAAAGAUGCUGCUAGAGAGAUAGUUGAGGUAUAUAAUAGAAAAGAUGGUGGAAAAUAGGCUUAGGUGGUUUAAGCCUAUAGAGAGAAGACCUGUAGAUUCGGUGGUAAGGACAGUAGAUUGGAUGAAGGAUAGUCAGAUCACAAGAGGUAGAGGAAGACCUAGAAAAACUGAGAAACUAUUAGGAAUGAUUUAAUGAUUAAUGAGUUGGAUUGAAAUAUGAUUUAUGUAGAACAUUUUGGUGUAAGUUGGUCCAUGUAGCCGACCCCACUCAGUUGGAUAGUAAUAAUUGGUUGUUGUUGUAUUAACGUUACUUGAAGUAGCCUAGAAAAACACAUUAUAAGCUCACAAGAAACCGCUGUUAACAAAGAGGUCUAUUUUGGUCCUAUGAGCUUUUAAGCUAUAAGCUCAAACGUUCAUCUUGCCAAACAGAACCUUAGUUGUAAAACAGUUUUACACUGACUUCCAACACGAAUCCAUUAUUUUGUUAUGUCACCCCACUUUUCAUAUGGUUGGAUGCUGAUUGUGUGACGUGGAAAAAUGGUGGCUUCUCAUUGGAUGUCAGUGUAAAAUUGUUUUACCCUGGCAGAAUACAACCGUUAAACUCUUUUAGAGUUUCAUUUUUGAAAACAUGUAUAAUGUCUUCUCUAAUGUGUUAUGUUGCAGGAUUCAUGUUUUGGAUUGUUAUACAGAUCCUCUUGGUUGGAAGGAUAAGACAAGGAAAUCUGGAAAUGUUACGAUUCCUUCUGACCAAAUUUCACUUGCUACUACUUCUUACAAAUCUGUCAAGGAUAUGGAUAAGUUGUUUUUGGCGAUUACUGAAUUGGGAAGAGGUAUUUUUUGCUGUUAGGUUGUGAAUUGUGAUCUUUUUUCGCUUCAAGAAACAUAUUUAUGUCGCCUAUUGAUUUUUUUUUUCUUUUCAAUUCAUAUACUUGCAGGUUUAGUUGGAGAAAAUAAAGUCCGCUUUUGUGUUGCCAUAGACUCGGUAAAUACCGUUGACUUAACAUAGCUCUGAGUGAAGUUGAAUUUACUGUGUUGGUCUAUUCUAGUCAAUGUUUAUGGCUUUGUAAUGUAUACGGUGAUUGGUUUUUUUACAUGCAUUUAGCUGAAAAUUUUAUGAUUAUGUAACUUGUAAGAAGGAUUUUUUUUUCUUUCAUUUAUUUUCAAGCUAAAUCAAAUAACCUUGAUACAAUAAUCUUUUUAUGAUAUUCUCCAUCAGUUUCUGAGAUUUUUACCUUAUCUAUGACUAGUAGCUUGAGUCACAAACUUGAACAAUAGAUUCUCAUCAUAAGAAGAGUCUGUGUGUUUACAUUGUAGGGGAUUCAUGCUGCUUUAGUUGUUAAUUUAUUUUGUAUUUUAUAAAGUUGCUAAAAAGGUGAUUGAGACUUGAGCUCUUUGAUAUUGUUCUAUCUUUACACUUUUGAGCCCACUUCUGAUCUGGCAGGUAACCCGACCCAAUUUGUUGUUACUUAGUUGAAAAUGAUUAGGUUGAGUUGGUUAGACAGUUAGGAUGGCAGUAGAGGUAUGGUAUCUUGUCAUUUUUGAGAGAAUUGGGGCCUUUGGCUAGGAAGAUUAAGACUCUCGAAGUUCUACAAUAUCUUUGUUAUUGGACAGUUUAUCUCUAUUCAUUUUCUAAUAAAAACCAAUUUGUGAUAAGCUUCAAAGAAACUUGAAAGUAUGGAUGGAAUAUGUCAGUUUGCCUCAUCUCUUAAACUCCCCAGAAAUAAACGAGCCAUUGAGGCAUUAUAAAGAUAUCAUGUUACAACUUAAUGAUGGAAUUGGAAACUUUUUUUUGUGUAUAUAUAUGUAUCUGACUAUCUAACUUUCUUGUGCCCAUUGUCAAAAAAGAAAAAGAAUUUUUGUGCCUGCAAGUUUCCAAAAUUCCUUUUACACUAGAAUUCCUGAGCAAGAAGUUUUACAAUUACUUUCAAUUCCAUUAAUAUUCUAAUCAAGACUGUUCGGUUUCUAUGUUUUUCUUGUAUUAUUUGUUUGUGUAUAUAUAUAAUCCUAAUGGAUUCUUUUUGGAUAUUAUCAGCUAAGUGAACUGUUGAGACAUGCAUCUUUGCAGUCAGUCGCAGGCCUUCUAAGCAAUCUGCGUAGCCAUGGUAUUUUCUCUUGUACUAUUUUGAAUACAGUUUUUUGUACAGUAUGUCUAAUUUGUUUUUAUUUGAUUGAGUAAAUAUUUUAGAGUACCAGAAGUCUAGAAUGUGAGUUAGUUGAUUAUUUCAGUAGAUAAUAUUUAUGGCACGGGUUGGCUUGACACUAACAUUAUCUUCUCUUAAAUCAUUGCUGUUGUAUGAUUGCAGAUCAAAUUUCAAGUAUAUUUGGAUUAUUGCAUUCUGACCUUCAUGAGGAGAGGGCUGCAACUGCUCUUGAGUACAUGUCCUCGAUGGUGGCUAGUGUAGAAUCAGAUCAUCAUUCUUCCGAGAACUCCUUAUCGGAGAAAAACUUUACCCAAGGAAAAUUUAAUGUCAGACUCAAACGCAGAAAUGGACGAGUUAGAGUGACGGUGAUCUCUUUAUUCCUUAUUGCGAACAUAUUUGGAAUUGCUAAUCUUCAAAACCAGUGAACUGAUGUAAGAUCGCUUUUAUUCAGUGUGAAAAGUUUAAAGUUGAAGCAGGAGGAAUCAGCUUUACUUCUGUUUCAGCAGAAGAUGGAACGACCGUUGCAGGCUUACUGCCAAAGGUCAGUCAUUACUCUUUAGUUUCCUGUGAAGUCAUGUCUCUUUCACUAGAAGCAAUGGCCCAACUCCUAAUAGCCUUGUUAUUAUUAGAUAUUUAUUAUUAGUUUUCAGAUAAAAUAUAUCCAUUAAAGAGAUCUUAUUUUUGUUGUGUCCCCCUUUAUAAAAGAGAGCAUAUCAUUCAAUGGUAUUUUUUCUAAGGAAAUGAAAAUUUAGAUGCUAGGUGUGCCUAUUUGAUGCUUUGAUUGAAAUGCUGAGUGCUUCUAACAUUAAAUUUAGGAUUUUAAAUUGUGGGCCGAUUUAGAUCAUUACAGCAGAUGUAAUCUGCCCUCAUAAUCAGAUGUAGUUGCUUAGAGCACCACAACCUAGUUGAUUGUACAGGACAGUUUUUAUGAUAAAAUCUAUCAAUGUGUUAUAUAUAAUUUGCAAUUGGUAUAAUCUGUUUUGAAGAAACAUCUCAUGUGCUGAUGCCAUGCCUGCACAUGCUAAGCACUUAGUUUGUUCACCUUCUCGUAUACACAUGACGGUACUUUUACAGAAUAUACACGUAUAUGCAUCGUAAACACAGUCACAAACAGUUGUAACAGAGACCAAACAAGAUAUGGUGUGUGAUAUGAAGCUGAAAACUUUGCAUUGACCGCAAAUAAAUAAUAGGUUGAAACUUUAUGUUUUUAACAGGUACAAUUCAAUCUCCAACUGUCAGAGAAGGAGCAAGUUGAUAGGGCAAAGGUUGUGCUUCCUUUUGAACACCAAGGUAUGAUAUAGAUUUGUAAUUGAGCCAUUUCUUACGGUGUUUAAAUCAUAUAUGUCCUCUUAUGCCUAAGCUCUUCUCUUUUAGGAAAUGGUGCACCGAUUCAAAUUUAUGAUGGUAGAAGAUCCCUUGAAGAGAGCAGCAGUGACGGGGCACCUCUUUCAAAGGGUAAAAAGGAGGACUCAGACCUAGGUGAGAUUAUAUAUUUUCGUGAUUCAGAUGAUGAGAUGCCAGAUUCCGAUGAAGACCCAGAUGAUGAUUUAGAUAUAUGAAUGUGCUUUAGUUAGUGUCUUAUGUAUUUCUAGGUGACUUAGAUUAGGAUUGUGAUCAAACAAAAUUAUUUAAAAAAAAAUCUGCCCGAUAUUGUUUAGCCAAUGUUGUCAAAAUUGCGCGUUAAAACGUAAAAUUGCCCUAUUUUGAGCGACUUGACUUGCAGUGAAAUCGAAAUACAAUCCGAUUUUGAGCAAUUUGAGUGAAAUCAGAAUACAUUCUGAUUUUGAGAGAUUUGAGUGAAAUCGGAACACAAUCCGAUAUUGAGGGAUUUGACUCGCAGUGAAAUUGGGUAAAAUCGAGGUACAAUUGAGUUAAUUUAUUUUGAUUUUACUCGUUUUUAUUACCCAAUAUUGAAGAAAUUAACUUUUUUUGGGGUUUGUUUUAACUUUUAACUGUUGACAACUUUAGAAACUUAUUAAACUCUUCUCUUUUGGGUAGUUUUUUGUGUGGAUGUUUUUAUGAUUUGGAUUGAUAAUUUAUGCUGUUUGAUACAAGUUACGAGCUUGACACUUCAUUAUGGAGAUUUGGUAUGUUUAUGAUUUAUAAUUAAGUUGAAAUUUUGGAUUAUUGAUGCAUUUAUAGUUUUUUUAGUAAUGCAUUUAUAAUAUUAUAUAAGUAUGUGUAAUUUAUAUAAUAAUUUUAAUAUUAUUUUAGUUUACAAUUCGAUUCCAUCUAGGCAAAACGAGUUCAUAUAAAAACUCGAGUUGACAACCUUAUGUUUAACUCAACUGAAUAAUUCAUCACAUUCGUCAUAUUGUACAGCCUACAUAGAAACCUGAAAUUGAUUUUAUGAUUUCGACAACAUAUCUAUUUAGUGCUCAGUUUUUACUAUUAUCUCUCUGUCACUACGCUCUUCGUUCCCUCGUUUCUAAUCUAUCUUAGCGUGGUUAUUGACCAAAUUCCUCUACGUUUUUGUCGCCGUAGAAGUUUAUGUCAUCGACUGGUCUUCAACCAAACCAAACCUACUCAUAAGUCACAACCAGGCAGAGAUGCCAAACCUACUCACAACCAGGCAGAGAACUGAAAACAUAUGUAUAACAGACCAUUGUGCCACCAUAUUGACAUGUAACAAACUGCAAAAACUGAAUACAAAUCUACAAACGAUUAUACCAAAAUUGGACAGGUAGCAAAAUAAAAACCUCAAUUAUGUUUUAAUUUUUUGCAGUAAAGAAAGCCUGAAUUAUGUUGAUAUAAGAUUCUGUUGAGGUAUUUAUAUGCCAUACAGCAGACUACAAAAUUACUCCAGUUACAAAAUUGCUCACAGUUACAAUCUAAACACCGUAAACAACACCAUAGAGCUCAUCUAAACCCUUCAUAUGAUGAAGAUUGUUCUUUUGACACCGAAAAAUUGCUCACAGGCACCUAAAACACGUCGAACGAAAGUUAAUUGCAGUUCAGGCACUUUUUAAAUCAGUUAAACUGAUUUAAAAAGUGUUCUCAAAAUAUUGGUUUUCGGCAUUCAUCAUUUUCAACUUGAUUUGUACAUAGCAUUCAUGUUUUUGAAAAAUCUGUAUGGUAAGCAAAUGGCAUUUAUGAAUGUCUAGUCUAAUGUGAGAGAUUUGGCCCCCUAAUUGUUCGGUCGGUCCUAAUAACAUAAUAACUUCUGUAUGGUUAGUACCGUAUAUAUCUCUUACACAUCCACAAAUCCAUAAUCAAACACAUCACUAGUUUAGAGUCAGACAAAAAGGAGUUCUUGAUAAUCCUCAACCUUAGUACUUGAUCCAAACCAAACCAUUCAUUGUAGAGAUGUCUUCUGCAGCAAUAACAACAGUACUUGCUUUCCUUAUCUUCACUUUCACAUAUUUUUUAUCCAAACUAUUCUUGCAUCCAAAACAAAAAACCAUCAAUCAUAAAAAGCCACCAGGUCCACCAUCACUACCAAUAAUCGGAAACCUCCACAUAUUAGGCACCCUUCCACAUAGAACACUUCAAUCACUCUCCAAACAAUAUGGUCCAAUCAUGUCCUUACAACUAGGUCAAGUCCCAGCUAUUGUCAUUUCAUCUUCAAAAGCCGCAGAGUCAUUCGUCAAAACCCAUGACAUCGUUUUCGCAAACCGACCGGAACUUGUAGGAGCACAGAUCAUGUCUUAUGGUUGCAAAGGGUUGGCGUUUUCUAAGUACGACUCUUAUUGGCGUAGUGUGAGAAAACUUUGUACUUCAAAACUUCUUAGUGCUUCGAAAGUUGAGAUGUUUGGUCCUAUUAGGAAGGAGAAGUUGGAUGUUUUGGUUAAAUCUUUGGAGAAAGCUGCUCUGGAGGGUGAGGUUGUGAAUGUUAGUGAGGCUGUAGAGAAUGUUAUAGAGGAUAUUGUGUAUAAGAUGGUGUUGGGUCGGAGUAAGUAUGAUCAUAUUGACCUAAAGAGGUUGGUUCAAGACGUAAUGGCUUUGAUUGGAGCUUUUAAUAUGGCUGAUUAUGUUCCUUGGUUAGGCACAUUUGAUCUUCAGGUAAUAUUUUUUUUAAGUAUUCAAAGUAUCUGCAUUGUAAAAUCAGUAUGAUUAACAUAUUUGCAUAUGACCAAAAUCAAAAUGAACUAUAUGUUAUAAAGACUAAAACCGAAACACCAAAAAAGAAAAUAUUUAAUGUUUUCAGUUUUAAAAACAAAUAAAACAUUUAUGGUUCCAUUAAGUUCACUGAAAAUAUUCAAUUAGAAAUUAACGUUAUCAAUUUGACUAUUUGUUAGGGCUUAACACGAGCCUGCAAAAGAACCAACAAAGCACUUGAUGAGGUGUUGGAGAUGAUAAUAUCAGAGCAUGAACAAACCACUAAUACAGACAAAACUCGUCAUGAAGACUUUGUAGACAUACUUCUCACUUUUAAGCACCAAAACAUUGAUCAUGGGAGUGAACAAAAUCAUGUCAUUGAUCGAACUAACAUCAAAGCUAUUUUACUAGACAUGGUUGUGGCAUCAUUUAGUACAUCUGCUACCACAAUUGAGUGGGCUUUAUCCGAACUUUUAAGGCAUCCAAGAGUGAUGAAAAAUCUUCAAGAUGAAAUACAAAAUGAAGUAGGAAAUAAGAGAAUGGUUGAAGAAAAGGAUUUGAAGAAUUUUAAUUACUUAGAUAUGGUGGUUGAUGAAACUUUAAGACUUCAUCCAGUUUCACCCUUCUUACUCCCUCGUGAAUGUAGAGAGAACAUAACAAUUGAUGGUUAUUUUGUAAAGGAAAAGACACGAGUUAUAGUAAAUGCAUUUACAAUAGCGAGAGAUCCUAAUGUUUGGUCAGAAAAUGCUGAAGAAUUUUGUCCAGAGAGGUUUAUUAAUAAGAAAUUGAAUUAUGAAGGACAAGAGUUUGAAAGUAUACCAUUUGGAUUUGGUCGUAGGCGUUGCCCUGGAAUUCAAUUGGCUUUGAGGACUGUUAGGUUAAGCAUAGCUCAAUUGGUGCAUUGCUUUAAUUGGAAACUUCCAUAUAAUAUUAGUCCUUCUAAUUUGAACAUGGAUGAGAAAUUUGGACAAUCUAUACAUAGAGCUCAACACUUACACGCAAUACCAAGUUAUCGUUUGGCAGGUGAUGGCAAGCUUGAAUAGUAGUUCCAAGAGGGACAAUAUUAUGUUUGCAUUCAACAAGGUUAUUACUAGUAAAGAUGCUUUAUUUUUAAUUAGUCUAAUGGUGUUUGUAUAAAAUAUGUUAAUGAAUACUUUUGAUGGCUGAUUCUGCACACAUAUGUGAGCUAACUUAUGAACUACAGUGUAUUUGGGCUAAACAACCUAAUAGUUAAAUGUUUAUGAACUAAAAGCUUAUUAUAGGAAAGGAAGAGAUAUUGCAUUAAAACUAUCUUUACAUAAAUGCCAAUUAUCGUGGUAUAUGUGUAUGAAUUACUUGUAGCCUUGUAGGGGAAUUUUCUCCCCCCAUCACUAUCCAAAUUUAGAAGUGGCAAAACAGAUUUAUCCUUUGAAUUGGUCCGUUUAACCCACCAUUUUAAGCAAAUUGAGUUGACGUUUUAAGUUCAUUCUCUAAUUUGUCCGUCCCAUCUAGCCUGAUGAAAAAGUGGGUUUUGAGCUGCAGGCUUAUGAAAAAUUGUUUCUUUAUUUUUAUUGUACUAUAGUCAAUAAGAAAGUGGCCAAAUUUUUAAAGAUUGUUUUUACCCUUAAAAAUAGUCGGAGGAUUUUUGUUUUAUUCAUACAAGAGAAUUUAAGACAAGAAGCAUAUUUUAUCUAAUUAUGCUCCUUUAGUUUAUAGUUAAAUAUUUACAUAUUUUCUUAAAUAACUAAGAAGUUUUUUUUUGAAGGAUUAAAUAACUAAGAAGUUAGAGAUUUCACGUACUUAAAAAAAAAAAAAGUUUGAGAUUUCAUUCUUUGACAAAAAUUCUAACUCAAUUUAAGUUCGAAAGAACACCAAGUCACCAACUGUACAUGAUUUAUUAAAAAUAAAAUAAAAAGAGGCGACAUAAUAUUCCUAUCGUAGAUGCAUAAUUUUUUUUAGAUGUAAUGUAAUUGAAUAACUACUAUUUCUCUAAUGUUUCUUUGGAGGGAACUAAAUCGUCAAUAUCUUUGGAGCGGAGUUAUUUGCAUCGAAUGGAAUGUGUACUUUUUUUUGCAGCACAAUAUUUGUUUUUGUCAAAACAACAAUAAUAAAAGAAUAUUUAAACCAAAAAUACAAUUAUUUUUUUCUUAUGUGUUUUCAAUAAUUGAUACUAUUAAUGUAACUCUCUGUUAGGGAUUAACACGAGCCUGCAAGAAAACAAGUAAAUCACUUGAUGAGGUGCUGGAAGUGAUAAUAACAGAGCAUGAACAAACAACUAAUGUAGACAAAACUCAUCAUGAAGACUUCGUAGACAUACUACUCUCAAUUAAGAACCAAACCAUAGAUCAAAAGAAUGAACAGAAACAUGUUAUUGAUCGACCAAACAUUAAGGCAUAUUACUAGACACGGUUAUGGCAGCAAUUGAAACAUCUGCUACCGCGAUUGAAUGGGCUUUUAUCUGAACUUUUAAGGAAUCCAAGAGUGAUGAAAACCCUUCAAGAUGAUAUACAAAAUGAAGUAGGAAAUAAAAGAAUGGUCGAAGAGAAAGAUUUAGAGAAGUUAAGUUACUUAGAUAUGGUGGUUCAUGAAACUUUAAGACUUUACCCUGUUGCACCCUUGUUACUCCCUCGUGAAUGUAGAGAGAGUAUAACAAUUGAUGGAUAUUUUAUAAUGGAAAAGACACGAGUUAUAGUAAAUGCAUGGGCUAUAGAGAGAGAUUCUAGUGUUUGGUCAGAAAAUUAUGAAGAAUUUCAUCCAGAAAGAUUUAUUGACAUGAAAAUGAAUUAUGAAGGACAUAAGUUUAAAUCUAUACCAUUUGGUUCUGGUCGUAGACGUUGUCCUGGAAUUGAAAUGGGUUUGAUCACAAUUAAAAUGGUUAUAGCUCAAUUGGUACAUUGCUUUAAUUGGGAACUUCCAUGUAAUAUUAGUCCUUCCAAUUUGAAUAUGGAGGAGAAAUUUAGAUCACUCUAUUCCAAGGGCUCAACACUUGCACGCAAUACCGAGUUAUCACUUGACAUGUGACAACAAGCAUGAUUAGGUUCAAGAAGGAAAAUGCUAUGUUUAAUUUGUAUUCGUCAAAAUAUUAUUAAUUACUAAAUACAUUAACUUUUUUUAAAAUUUAGAUCGAUUAAUAACUUGUCUUUGCGUCUGAUUUGCAGUAGGGAAGAGGGGUAUGUUAUUCAUAUUAUGCAUAGUUGUCCAAUGACAGUUUUGGCUUGGAACCACUUUGUAGAUAAUAAAUGGAAGCUUGUUUCUAAUAGGAAUUUGUUUUACAGAAUUGAGAUGAACUUUUAUAUUGGGUAAGCUUCGGAGUGUGCGGUUAUGGUGCUUAAGGAACCAUUUCCAUAGUAAAAUGGUUUUGACAUAAUUGGGUUGAGAUUUAUACAGGGUGCUGGAAACCAUUAAGUACAUCUAAUAGUUUUUGAGUAUAACUCACAAAAACCAUUUCUAAAUUUAUGCAGGAUCGUAAGGAUUUCUUUAUGCACCAUAACCACGCCAGCUUUAAAGUCAUUUGUUAUUUAUUGUUGAGGUGAAGAGAUAAUUUAGUGCAGUCCUCUUCAUGCUCUACUUGGGAUUUGAAUAAACUAUCAAUUAAUUCUUAAUUAUGACUCCAUCUUCAACUUAGUCUUUUUUUUUUCUUUUUUUUUUGAGAGAGUCUUCAACUUGUUCUUAAACUAUAUAAAUUUAGUCUUUAACAUAUACUCAUUUCUGUCCUUAUUAUAAAAAGAAAAACACUUGAUCAAAAAAAUAAAAAUAAAAAGAAAAACAAAAAAAAUAUCAAAACCAAUGCAAUCAUUAUUUAAUGUAACUUUUUUGAUAUUUUUACAAAUAUACUCUAAUAAAAAAUUAUAAAACAUUAAAUACACUCAUUAAUAUUAAAAAUAUAAACAUUAAAUAAAGGAGUAUUAAAACUUUUUAAACAAUAAAUACACCUUAAAAUUUGCCAAAAAAAACUACAUUUUAAAAGUUGUGACGUUUUCUUAUAAAUAUAACCAUUUAAAAAAAAAUUAUAAUAAGAAUAAGAGGGAGUAUAAAAUAUAUGUCAGUUUAGUCUUUACUCGUAGAAUUUUCAUUUACUUUAAGUAUUGUUAUGAAAUUAAUCUAAAGUAUGGCAAGAUAUUGUGCAACAUCGAAGAGUAGAGAGAAAAUGAUACAGGGAGAACAAAAGAGUAUAUUGUAUUGCUUUUCAAGUGUGUUUUCACACUAAAAUACGAGUAUUAUUUAUAGGAUACAAUCUGAGCAAGUGAAUGAUCAAAGUAAUUAAGGACCAGUAACCAUCCCUUCACUUAUAGGACUUAUAGGAAUGUGGAAGAUUAAGGAUGGACAUCCACUAAGUUAAUUAUUCAUAACACUCCCCCUUGGAUGUCUAUCAUGAUAUGCAUCGUUAAAACCUCACUAAACAAAACCCCGUUGAAAAAAAAUUCUAGCAAAAGUUCUUAAAUUCACUUGAUAGUGAAAUAUGAAACUCCCUGAAGGAUUUCAUAUGAAAGAUGUGUUACAAUUUAUAUAUAUGGCUCACUUGAUAGUGAAAUAUGAAACUCCCUAUAAGAUUUCAUAUUUCACUAUGAAAAAGUUCUUGAAUUCACUUCUGGUGAAUAUAUCUGUAAAGAAUAUAUGUCUUUUAAAAAUAAAUGGUAGACAUUUACCCAUUCCUUCUUUGAACUUUCAAGAUAUCAUUGGUAUAUUAUUACCUAAAGUAAUAUUAAAAACACUCUCUUUUGAACACUCUCUAAUACUUAGAUUUAAAUCAUUGUGGGUGGGACAUCCCAACAAAGUGGUGGGAUAUCCCGUCAUCCAUCUCAACCAUCCCUCAUACCAUGCAGUCAUGGGCAUCCAGUCAUCCACUUAUACAAAAUGGUGGGACAUCCAGUCAUCCACAAACACACCACUCGUUUAGAGAUGAUACCGGUUCUUAUAGCCCUCACUCCUCACUCUUGGUACUUGAAUUGUAGACAUGUCUUCAGCAACAAUAAUAACUACAUUACUUUAUUUCCUUCUCUUCACUUUCACAUGCUUUUUAUUCAAACACUUCUUACAUCCAAAACAAAAAAACAUAAACCAUAAAAAGCCACCAGGUCCACCAACACUACCAAUAAUUGGAAACCUUCACCUAUUAGGUAAACUUCCACAUAGAACACUUCAAUCACUCUCCAAAAAAUAUGGUCCAAUCAUGUCCUUACAACUUGGUCAAGUUCCAACAAUUAUAAUUUCUUCUUCAAAAGCUGCAGAAUCAUUCCUCAAAACUCACGACAUCAAAUUUGCAAGCCGGCCAAAGAUUCAAGGAACUGAACUCAUAACAUAUUGAUGUGAUCCUAAAAAUUAUCUCUCUUGACAAGAAUAAUAAAGUCAUUGUGGAAUAAAAGAACCAAAUUAAUUUUGGGUUCAAAGUUUUAUUUUCGUAGGUCAUGAUAUGUCUGUCUUGUUUUGGCUAUAUCUGGAGCUCUGGAUGUCCGUUUGAGGUGAUCUUUAACUCGUUGGAAAGCUUACGAAAUUCUCUACAUUUCAUCUAUUUGAUUCAAGAUCAAAUUCGGAAUAUUUAAUGGUGUAAAAUGAGUUGUAAGUUGAAAACGUGGUUAAAGUGUGUAAGCUGAAGAAUUAAAGGUGUUUGUGGAAUUGUAACGUCUAGAAAUAAUUAGCCUUCACAAAUCAAUGUGCAAAUGAAUAUGUAACCUCCUCAUGCAUUGAUUAGCCACCAGCUUAGAGAGUCAUUUUGUAACAUUUUAUUUGCAUUAAUCAGCCACCAAAACAUUAUUGUAAUUAGUGGUUGCAUUUCCUUUCAUUUUCUAAGAGUUUUAGAGUCAAAAUCAUCAUGUAAUAAGCUCAUAUAAAUAGAGCACGAAAAUGAUAUGAAAAAGAAGUUGAAUAUUAUAGAAUUUUACACAUAUGUGUAUUGAGAGCUUUGUCUCUUGUGGUUCUGGAUUGAACCAACCUUGAUCUUAUCAAGAAAUCAUAUUUCUUGUGGCGAUCCUCGCAUCCAUAGACUUAUCACUUUCUUGGAUUAGAAAGUGUGGCGUCCCUGUCUAUCCAUUACAUUUCUUCAUUUUUUAGUCUUUUCAUCAUUUCCACCAACAAUAUUCAUAAUUCACUUCCGACGGCUCCGUGACAUUCAUCAUUUGGUAAUCAGAGCUUAGGUUCAAAUCAGGUGUUUUCUAUCCUUUUAAUUUAUUUGAUUUUUGUUGUUCUACAUCAAAGUUUGAAAAAAAAAAAUGUCUCAAGAAAUCCAAGCUUCAAUAGAAUAUUUUGAUAAAGUAUGGAGAGAGAAAAUGCUUGAGGAUAUCAAGAGGAGAUCAAGUCAUUCUUCUCCUCUUAAAGAGUUACAAAGAAAUAGGAGAGAGAAAAUGAUGGCAAUAAUUGAUAGAGGAAUGGCUGAUAUCUCUAAAAUACUAGAGGAAAAUCUCUUUCAAAUCCAAAAUCAUUAUAUAGAGCCUAAAAUAGAUAUUGAAGAAAAAGAGAGUCUCAUUGUAAAGGAAACUCACGAAGAAGAAUGUGAAAAGGAAAGAGAAGAGACAAAAGAAAGUGACGAAAAACAAGUAGAGGAAAAAGGAGAAGAAAAGGAGAAUGAGAAGGAAAAGGAAGAGAAAAAUGUUAGGAAGUUUUGGCCUACUAUUACAUUAGUACCUUCUUCUAAGUUGGUUUGUGUUUUUAAAUGUUGGGAUUCUUCUUCUAAUAUUAUUCAAUUGCCUAACAUUUCUUUAUGUCAUGAAGGAAACAAAGAGAAUGAAGAAACUUUUUCUCAACAAGUGGAAGAAAAUUAUGAGAUUUGGAACGAUGAUCAUGUCCAUAAAUCAAAAGUGGAUGAAAAGAAAACUAAUUCUUCCAAUAAAAGUGAAGAGCUCUCUAAAGUUAAAGUUACAUGUGAUGGAUUCCAUAGAUUUAUUUUUGACCCAGGAGGUAUUCAAGCUAUAAAUUCGAGGUCGAAUUCUCUUGAAGAGGGAGAGUAUGAUGUGAUCCUAAAAAUUAUCUCUCUUGACAAGAAUAAUAAAGUCAUUGUGGAAUAAAAGAACCAAAUUAAUUUUGGGUUCAAAGUUUUAUUUUCGUAGGUCAUGAUAUGUCUGUCUUGUUUUGGCUAUAUCUGGAGCUCUGGAUGUCCGUUUGAGGUGAUCUUUAACUCGUUGGAAAGCUUACGAAAUUCUCUACAUUUCAUCUAUUUGAUUCAAGAUCAAAUUCGGAAUAUUUAAUGGUGUAAAAUGAGUUGUAAGUUGAAAACGUGGUUAAAGUGUGUAAGCUGAAGAAUUAAAGGUGUUUGUGGAAUUGUAACGUCUAGAAAUAAUUAGCCUUCACAAAUCAAUGUGCAAAUGAAUAUGUAACCUCCUCAUGCAUUGAUUAGCCACCAGCUUAGAGAGUCAUUUUGUAACAUUUUAUUUGCAUUAAUCAGCCACCAAAACAUUAUUGUAAUUAGUGGUUGCAUUUCCUUUCAUUUUCUAAGAGUUUUAGAGUCAAAAUCAUCAUGUAAUAAGCUCAUAUAAAUAGAGCACGAAAAUGAUAUGAAAAAGAAGUUGAAUAUUAUAGAAUUUUACACAUAUGUGUAUUGAGAGCUUUGUCUCUUGUGGUUCUGGAUUGAACCAACCUUGAUCUUAUCAAGAAAUCAUAUUUCUUGUGGUGAUCCUCGCAUCCAUAGACUUAUCACUUUCUUGGAUUAGAAAGUGUGGCGUCCCUGUCUAUCCAUUACAUUUCUUCAUUUUUUAGUCUUUUCAUCAUUUCCACCAACAAUAUUCAUAAUUCACUUCCGACGGCUCCGUGACAUUCAUCACAUAUGGUUCCAAAGGGUUGGCUUUUUCUAAGUAUGGUCCUUAUUGGCGUAGUGUGAGGAAACUUUGCACUUUAAAACUUCUUAGUGCUUCAAAAGUUGAGAUGUUUGGUUCUAUUAGGAAGGAAAAGUUGGAUGUUUUGAUUAAGUCAUUGGAGAAAGCUGCUUUGGUGAGUGAGGUUGUGAAUGUUAGUGAGGUUGUAGAGAAUCUUAUUGAGGAUAUUGUGUAUAAGAUGAUAUUGGGUCGGAGCAAGUAUGAUCAAUUUGACUUAAAGAGGGUGGUUCAAGACGUAUUGGCUUUGGUUGGAGCUUUUAAUCUGGCUGAUUAUGUUCCUUGGCUAGGUGUAUUUGAUCUUCAGGUAAUUUUUUCAAGUAUAAAAUCAAAAAUAAAGGAUUAAAUAUCGAAUGUGCAAUUUUAGUCAUGAUCUUUUUAAUUGUACGACUUUGUUCUGUAAAUAUUGUUGUGAGAUAUUAGUCUCCACUUUUAAUCCUAAGCAUCAUCAAACAUCAUGGUUGUUUGUAAUUGAAAAGAGAAUGGUAAAUUGCAUGACACUAGCCAUCAUGAAUAAUUAUGAUGUACGAAUCAAGGGUACUUCUGGUUGGUGUUAGAGGGAGAGGGGGUCUUUAGAGGCCAUGGUCUGGUCCCUCCUAUAUUUUUAAUAAUUUUUUUAUUUAUAUACUAUAAUUAAACUAUAUUAUAAUAUUUCAUAAAAUAUAUUAGGCUAUAGUCCCCUCAAUUGAUUUAAUUAAAACGUUCACCAUAUUAUUAGAUUUAUUGACAACUAGUAUUAUUAGUUUGAUAUGUUAUAUUUUAUUUUAAAUUAUCUCACAUUGUCCUUUCCUCAACAUAUUUUAAAUGGAAUAAAACACAAUGAUAUAGCGUUGCAAAAUAAAAGGUGAUUACAAUUAUUACCUUUUUUGAUAGUAAAUGGAUGGAUAAAUAAAUGUUAAAGACGAGUUAAUGUUAUGCUUAUAUGCAUUUGUAUAUAUUUUGACUAUAAAUUUAGAUCUUUACGAAUAAUAUUAAUAUUUUAUUUAAUUAUAAUAAAUAAAUUAAUAUAUGUGUAGUGGUGUCAAUGUCCUAAGUUAUUUACAUUAAUAGUGUUGACGUGUCAGGUGUUCGAGUCAAAGUCCAUGCUUCAUAGAUUAAGUGGUUUGAGUUAUGUAGGUUUUGAUUUUGUAACAUCAAGAAACUUGAUUUAAAUUUGACUAAGAGUUGUAAAAUGAAUAUUAGUGUCACCGUUAUUGAUAAUAAUUUUUUUAAAUGAUAAAUAACAUUUAAAUCAAAAAUAAAAAUCAUAUUUUAAUUUUGUGUGUUUUCAAUUUUUGUAUGCUCAUAUGGUUCUGUUAAAUUAGGUGAAAAUAUUAAAUUAGCAAUUGACAUUAUUAAUUUAACACUUUGUAUAGGGAUUAACACGAGCAUGCAAGGAAACGGGUAAAGCAAUUGAUGAGGUGUUGGAAGUUAUUUUAACAGAGCAUGAACAAACCACUAAUGUAGACAAAAAUCGCCAUGAAGACUUUGUUGACAUACUUCUUACAUUUAUGCACCAAACCAUUGAUCUAGAAAAUGAAGAAAAUCAUUUCAUUGAUCGAACUAACAUCAAGGCAAUUUUACUAGACUUGACUGUGGCAGCAAUUGAUACAUCUGCUACCGUGAUUGAAUGGGCUUUAUCCGAACUUCUAAGACAUCCAAGGGUAAUGAAAAUCCUUCAAGAUGAGAUACAAAAUGAAGUAGGAAAUGAAAGAAUGAUUGAAGAGAAAGAUUUAGAGAACUUAAGUUACUUAGAGAUGGUGGUUCAUGAAACUUUAAGACUUUACCCUGUUGCACCCUUAUUACUCCCUCGUGAAUGUAGAGAGAGUGUAACAAUUGAUGGAUAUUUUAUAAAGGAAAAGACUCGAGUUAUAGUAAAUGCAUGGGCUAUAGGGAGAGAUUCAAAUGUUUGGUCAGAAAAUGCCGAAGAAUUUUACCCAGAGAGAUUCAUUGGCAAGAAAAUGAAUUAUCAAGGACAAGAGUUUGAAUCUCUACCAUUUGGUUCUGGCCGCAGACGUUGUCCUGGAAUUCAAUCGGGUUUAGUGACCGUUAAGUUGGUUAUUGCCCAAUUGGUGCAUUGUUUUGAUUGGGAACUUCCAUAUAAUAUCAGUCCUUCCAAUUUGAAUAUGGAGGAGAAAUUUGGACUCACUAUACCAAGAGCUCAACACUUGCAUGUAAUACCGACUUAUCGUUUGGCAUGUGAUGACAGGGUUGAAUAGGUUCAAGAAGGACAAUAUUAUGCUUGUAUGCAAUAAGUUUAUUACUAUAUUAAAGGACAAUCUUAAAACCCUCUUUUAUUCUACUAACCCUCUCUCAUCAUGUUUUUUGUAACUUGGUUUCGAAUCCGUACGCGGGUUCGCUGGAUUGCGCUCAUGGUGAGAGUUAGUUUGUUAGGAUUGAUUAGGGUAGUUUCAUUUUUCUGUUUUACACGAUGUAUUUCCGUUUGGGUUAUUUCUGGGUCAGGUGCAAUGUCCCCCCAGCUCUUUACCUUUUGUUCUUUUAUGUUAUUUUAUUUCUAUUUUUGCUAUAAAAAAAAAAAAAAAAGUAUAGUAGGUCUAAUGGUAUUUUUCGAUGAUUCUAGGGUGAAGAGAACUAGACUUGCUUUUCUACAUUUGAGCACAUACUUUAAAUAAUUUGAAGGAGCAUUUAUACUUUAAAAUAGACUACAUAAACAAAAUGGAUGAUUUUCAUACUAUUUGUUAAAAUUAAAAAUUAUUUUUCAAAACUAGAUAUCAUAAACUUUCCAGUAAAUGGUCAGUUGCUUAAUUCUGACACCGUUUUCUAUAUUAAUAUAAUCGAUGAAGUUUAUGAUAAAAUGCAGAAAAAUGUGAGAAAAUGAUCAAUAAUUAAAGUAUGCAUACCAUAUUAUUUAUAUUUUCAUACAGGUUGCAAAAUGAUUUCUGUUAUCAAAAUAUGUUUUGAGCUAUGAGUUCCUUAGAAGACUAGACAAAAUAAGGAACCAAGUUGUGAGCCUCCCAUUUAUGGGGAGGACAAGUUCCAUGUCCCAGCAUACUAACUUAUUUAACUUAAUGUUUUAAUUUACUUUAAGAAGAUAUUUAAUUGCAUUUGCACCCAAAACCAAUGUCUUAGUGUUCAAGAGUUUUAGAGUUUGAAAUUCAUAGCACUAUUUAGAUGAUGCGAUGUGAAGGUACGAACUUAAUAAAUAAAGACAGUGAAAUGUUUGUUGUAAUUUAAACCUUCAACAGGUAAGGGGACCUACUCACAUGCUAAGAAUAAUAGAUAUGUUUGGUUAUAUAUACCGUUGGUGUACACAUCUGAUGCGGUGUAUUCUAUGAUUCUUGUAUACACAGGUCAUUAGUUUAUUACUAUAAAUAUAAUAAUUUUUUGUUUUAAUUUCUCUAAAUUUGUUUUUUGAUUGUUAGUUAUGAAAAAUAUUUUAAUCACCAUUUUUUUUUUAAAGAAAUAUGAUUAUAACAUUUCAUUAAUAAUAAAAGAUUCAAUACAAUCAGGUAUGUUAAAAUAAACAAUGAGACUAGUUAGAAACGUGACUUCUCUUACAAGCACAUGAGCAACCAUAUUUGUUUGUCGCCUAGCAAACUCCAUAGAGUUGGUAAAAGAAGAGCUGAAUAGAGAUCGACAAGAAGAAAUAAUGCAUGCAAAUCCAGAAAUGUCGUCUCGAGUAAUCUUGGAAUCAGUUUCAAAAUCAACAUUAUUUAUCAAAUUGCAUAUCACUCAACCAGUGCAUAGCACUAUGUAACAUGAAUGCUUCACCAACAUCAACCGAGUAAAUACAUGGAAAACUGGCAACUUUUGCCAAGACAAACGCACCUUCAAAAUCCCGAACACAAAUGUCAAUUCUAGUUUGGUUAAGAUUAGAUGAGAACGCAACAUUGAUGUUACACUUAUACCUACCUGACAAAGGACGUUCCCAGCAAUUGGAACCCGCGGGUCCUGUACUGCUAAUUGUAUCCAAAGUUGCGGCCGAAUGCUCCCCACCAUGAGGUUGUUGCGCUUGCUGCUGAGUUGUGGGAGCAGCUAUGCUAGAGGCAUUUGCAAGAUGCCAAUCGUUGACAAGUUCUUUGCACGCUCAACAAUCGUGGCACUUACCUAUAUGACAUCAUCCCAAACUUUUAGAUUACCAUGCUUCCAAAGGCUCCAUAAUGUUGCUGCCAACCGUUGGUUUUGUUCGGAAUAUAAUGUAUCCAAUAACAAAAUGAUAGUUUCAGUUGUUAAAGUAGUAAAUUGAAUAGCAUGUUGAAUAGCUCCCCAAAUAUUUGUCAUAUGCCAUACCUGGACAUGAUCAAAAGAACAAUAAAAAUAAUUAAGUGAGCAAGAUCCUCAUGGUUUGAGUUACAACUAACACAAUGUGUAGGACAUUGGAUUCCUUUAUCAAGGAGACGAACACGAGUCGGUAAGUAGCCCCGGCACAUACGCCGCACUAAAUUUUUAACUUUAGGAGGAACCUUAACCUGCAAAAUUCCUGACCAAGAACCUGGACAACGAGAAUGAGAAGAAACAACGGGCUCGUCCAAACAAAGCGGAUAAUCACUACACACAGAAUAACGACUAUUCUUUUCCGCUUUCCAGAUUAAACGAUCAUCUUGGAACUAGGCAAUAAGUGGCGUGUUAAAAAUCUUAUCAGCUAUAUCAACACUAAGAACCUAGCGAACUACCUCUUCAUUCCAGCUCUAGUCGUAUAGAUUAAUCAAAUUAUUAAUGGUAACAUUCUAACCAAAACGAGCUCCUAUAAUACUUCCAUCAAUACACUCUCCGUCAGAUAACCAAGGGUCAUUCAAAAUAGAAAUAGAAGAGCCGAAAUCAAUACUCCACCAAGCACCUCCACAAACGAUAAAUCGGGUGCGCAGAAUGUUGUGCCACACAUAGCUAGGAUUGUGGCCAAGUUGUGCCAUGAGAUAGGUAUGGAAGGGAAAAUAUUGUGCUUUAAAAAUACAAGCGACAUGAGAGUCAGGUUCCAUAAGAAAUUCCUAACCUUGUUUACCCAACAUAGCCAAGUUGAAAGCGGGGAGGUCCUUAAAACCCAUUCCCCUAUGAACCUUGUGUACUAACAACUUCUCCCAACUCAUACAGCUAAUAUUGCGUUGUGUAGUUCUACCAUGACGCCACCAGAAGGAAUUCAUCAUCUCUUCGAUACUGUUAAUUAACGUAAUUGGUGAUAAAAAAAUGCUCAUAACAUAAAAAGGAAUGACCUGCAAGACAAAUUUAAUCAUAACCUCACGCCCUGCCUUAAUUAGUUAAGCAUUUACUACUCUAGGAAUUAAUUUUCUGCCAAACUCGAUCUUUGAUAUAAGCAAAAGUUGCAUUUCGAUCCCUAUACCAAUCAUAGAUGGUAAACCAAAUAUUUGCCGAUUCCCAAUAUCGCCUGAACCCGAAGAAUGUUAGUAAGAGUCAGUUUGAGAAGGUCAGGAACAUUUCGACUACAAUAAGUUUCAGACUUAGGCAAACUAAUGGCAUGGCCUGAAGUUAAUUCACGUUUAAUCACCAAUUUUAGUCCUUACUUUUAAGUCAAUUCAUAUGUAUCAUUCAUGUUUUUUAAUGAAAAUUACCAAGAAUGUUUACAAUAUUAUAAGAAUCUCUUCAAAAAAAACAAUAAUUUAGAAAGAAAAAAAAAAGAAUUAUAUAUGUAUUUGUAUGUACCAAAAACAUAAAAAAUAAAAUCAUGUUUGUUAAAAAAUUCUAAAUUUGUUUGGAAGAUAUUCUUAUAAUUGUUGAUAUAAAAUCUAAAUCCCCAUUUUUAGUUUUAAAGAUAACAAACUAAUUAAAUUAAACUUUAUUAAUUCUGAUUUUAAUUGUUAUAUAACUUGUGCUCUUGAGUAUCUUUUUUAAGUUAAAGGUAUAAAAGCAUUGUACAAUUAUCAAGGAAAGCAACAAGUUAUGAUGGAGAGAUUGAUCUCAAGCAUUGGUUUCAAAUAUGGAUUUAAUGUUCAAAUAAGGCCAAGCACGUACAGGGAAAUGGAAUGUUACAUUUGAGGAAGCAAUAAAUAUUUCAAGCAUAAACUAUAUCAUGACAAGGAAAUAUUAUUUGAAGCUUACUACAAAUGAACAUAUGAACAAAAAGAACAUAUUUAAUGUCAUGUGCAAAAAUAGUUGGCAUGAGAAUGACCACUAUAUUUUCGACAACACAUCAAGAGUGUAAGACAAAUACAAAACUAUGAACCUUUGGAUAUUCACUUUAUGGUCACCUCACAACAUGACAAGAAAGCUGCCUAGUACAAGAAAAGCCUUUUCUUUGGGCUCAAGUCUUAUGGUACAGCAACAAGUGAAAAGGAAAUGAGCUGUACAAAGCUCAUGUCUCACGUAGCAAGCAACAAAGUACAAAGGAAAGCUUCAGCAGAUUUAGAGAUCGAUCUCAACUUUGAAAGGAACAGUUCCAUCUCAAAGGCUCCCUUGAAUCUUGUGCUGCAAGAAAGGAAGAAUUUAACAAGGGUUUUUCUCCUAUAAAUAGAAGACUCCAGCAAGUGAGAAAAACAACUUUUGAGCAAAAGAAAAAAGACAACAUUCUUUAAGAAUUUCUUUGUUUACAAAUCACUCAAGAAUCAUAUCUUUGUUUUGAGCAAGCAGCUCUUUUGUGUAUUAAAUCUUUGAAGAAGUUUAAUACUUUCAAAUACUAUUGUAAAAGAAUCUGCAAGUGUGCAGAAAGGUUGUAAAAAUUCUUGCUCGUAACGGCAAGUGACUUGACCAAGUGAAGGUUGAAAGAAAGUGUUGUAUAGAUCAGAAAGAUCUAAAAAGAAAGAAGGAAUUGAGAUUAAGUCAUAACUCAAUUACCUAGUGGAAAAUCUCACAAGUAUUGUGGGGACUGGACUAACCCACGUUGGGUGAACCAGGAUAACUCUUUUUGUGUGAUCCUUCUUCCUUAUCUAUUUUUAUUUGCACUAAUCACACACCUUCACUAUAUCUAUUUAAAAUUCCAUUUAAAUCACUAACGUUUUUUUGUUGAGAAUUUUUAAUAGGUAAUUUUUAUUACAUCACAAUUCAAACCCCCUUUCUUGUGAUAAUUAUUUAUCUUCAAUAAUACUUUAUGAAUUUCUGAAAAUUUAAUUAAAAAAUAUGAAGACUACACAAGAGUUCACUUAAAAGUAGAGAUCAGAAGUAUUGAUGAAAAUUUUAAGAAGACUAAAUAUUGAAGAAAUUUUUAGAGGAACUAAAACUAAAAAUUAAUAUAUUUAUAAGGACUAAAAACAUAUUUAACCAUAUCUUUUAUUCUCUAUUCAAAAUAUACCGUAUUAGAUUGCUUUCUUUAAAGAUUAUCGAUAUAAAACAUAAUUAAAAAUUAAUAAUUAAAUAUAAGUGGUUUCAUAGCCAGUAGUAAUAUAUUCAUUUUGAUGUCUUAAAAAAAAUAUUAAUAAUUAAAUAUAAAUAUAAAGAGAAAAGCAUUUCUUUAUGAUGGGAAAGAAAAAAAAAUGUAUCAUGUGUCAAAACUCAACUCAUUUUAUUUUUCAACAAUAUUCUUCUCAUAUAAUUGUAAUGUUUAUACAUUUUAUUUUACCAUCAAUAUUCUUUUUUUACCGCCAUGAGAAUUACACCGACCAAGGAAACAUGUGGUCCCCGCCCAUAUCGCCAAAAUAACGUUGUCCAUUCUUUUUUUAAUGAAAUACAUGUAGAUUUGACUUUGUAUGGAGAGGUGGAGUUGUGGGACGCCUCAUCUAUGUUAGCUUGCUCACUACUCUCCACCUCAUCCACAUUCAGUCAGUCACCCACUACCUCAUAUGAUCAACUCUAUAAAUAUGGGGAUUUCCGGCCUCCAUAAUUCAUUCACUCCUUCUUACCAAAAAAACACUAAUAACCUAAGAGCUCCUCACUGUCAUCACCAUGGCCAGGAGGGUCUCUACUACUGUACACAGAACAAGUACAUUUUUAAUUUAUUUUUAGGCAAAUUCUAUGGUACACCUAAUAUAUUUGAGUGUAUCAGUACACUCACUCUUUAAAUUAAUGGUUAAAUGAGUUGUAUUUUGAAGAAAAAUAUUAUUUUCUAUCAUUUAUAUUUAUAAUAACUAAAUCUUAUUCGUCAGAAGUGUUAACGAAAUAAAAUUAAUUUUUUUUUUGAAUUUUUAGCACUCAUAAUUGAGAAUAUUGAUUAUAUUUUACGAUUAUAUGUAAAAAAAAUUAUUAUGAUUCCUAUAAACAAUGAACUGAUGUUUUUUCUUAUGAAAUAUAAAUAUUGAUAAAUAGUUAUUUAUUUCAUAAAAAACGAUCGUUAAUUUAUAAAAUUAUGAAGAAAGAGUACCGGUACACCUCAUUUUAUGAGUGUACCGUAAAAGUUCCCUUAUUUUUAUUGGAAAAAGGAAAUUAUUAAUAAUGGUGACAUCAAUGAACAUAUUACAAUUGUCCCACGUUGGGUUUGGACCAAUAUUUCAUUUGUGAUUACAGUAAAUCUCUUUCCACAGAUGUUGGACAUAAUAUCAAAUGUAAUAAUCAAACAUAUACUCUCUCCGUCCCAAAAUAUAAGCAAAAAUAGUUUAAACCAAAUACAUUAACUUUUGUUGUCUAAUUUUUGUUUACAUUUUGGGACGGGAAGAAAUACUCGUUUAUAAUUAGAAUAUUUUAUUUUAUAUAAAAAAAUGAUCAUUCAAAUUGAUUGUGUACAUCCGAUACAAACAUAAAUUCAGCAUUUCUAAAAAUGAAAAUAAAUUUAAGAAUAAACUCACAUCAUCCAAAUUAAUACCAUAAAACAACAACAAAAAUUAUAAAUAAUGUGACAAAAUUAAAGGAAUUGGAAUAUUCAUGUAUUCAAAUCUGCAAUUGACGACUUAAUCAUUUGUUGAAUCAGAAAUUGUUUGAAGUUGAUAUGUUUAUCUAAGUCAAAUGAACACUACACCCAGAUGAAAAUUCAAACAAACACUACAUCAAAACGAGAAAUCAAACAACGUCGCACUGAGAUGACGAAAUCAUAAAAGAAACUUAGGAAAAAUAUGUACUUUAUAGAAAUAUCUUCAAGUUCGCGCAUUGUACAUCUUUGUUUUUUUCCUUCAAAUCUGUUAGAAUAUUCCUAGGCGCCGCCAAACUCUUUGUCAUGUCGAUAACCUUUUCUUCUCCUCCGCUUUUAGUCUACCUGCAAGAAGGUGGCCGUCUAACUUUGGCGCCAACUCAUGGUUGUGCAUUCCACAAAGCAUUGCAAUCCACCAAUCUUUUGUAUCCUUAUCAAAGAAACCUUGCAACCUAAGCGAACAUUCCCAUUUCCUUGAGCCCGUGUCUUCAAGGUUUGGUUUCUUCCUCGUCUUAGGUGGCUUGUAUUCACCACUGCUUUCACAUUGUGUCGUCAAAUAUGACCUUUUUAAACUAGAUUUAUCUAUAAAAAUAGUAAAUCCGGCCCUUGCCACUUGUGGCCAACCUAACCAAGUAAAUCUUCUCGGUCUUUCCAUCUUUUAUUUGUUGUAAAAAACGAGUCGGUGUCUACUUCAAUACCACGAUCAUUGGUAGCCAUUUGUCAUGGUCUGACCUCUAUAAUAUAUUGUCUACAACAAUCACUAUAUACAUGUAAUUUUUUUUUUUUUAAAUUCAUUAAAUAAUUAUUAUAUCUAAUUUAUUUAUAAAUGAGAUACAUUAAUUAUUCAAUAAAACUAAAAAAUUAUUUUUUACUUGUAUAUUUAACCGACUAAGAAUGGAAGGUGGAUCCAGUUUUUGAGGGAUGAAUCCAUUCAUCUGCAGUGUCUACCUUUACUUCUUCAAUUUAAUUUCUUUGUAUAGUUAGUCUUAAAAAAGUUAUGUAGCGAAAUAGUUCAAUCUAUUUGAAUUAAUGGUUUAAAGGAAUUAAGGAGUUAAAAAUCUUGGUUCAAGUCUUAUAAGAAAAUAAAUUAACAUAGGCUUAAAUGCUCUUUUGGUCCCUUAACUAUUUAAUUGGUAUCGCUUUGGUCCAUUAACUAAAAAAAAGAUUGUUUGAGGAUUUUAAAUUUUUUUUAAGUCUCGUUUUGGUCCCUUCGGUUAGGUUUCCGUUAGUUUUAAUAAAAAACGUUAAGUGUGGACACAUGUCACCUUGUCAUUGGUUCUGAGAUUUUUUUUUUACAAAAAAAAUAAUAAUUUUUUUUGUAAAAAAAAAAAAAAAAACUCAGAGCCAAUGACAAGGUGACACUUGUCCAAGAGUUAACUUUUUUUAAAACCCUAACGGAAACCUAACAGAAGGGACCAAAACGAGACUAAAAAAAAACUUAAAGUCCUCAAACAAUCUUUUUUUUAGUUAAGGGACCAAAGCGAUACCAAUUAAAUAGUUAAGGGACCAAAAGAGCAUUUAAGCCAAUUAACAUAUUUGAUAUUUGUCAUUUUCUUUGAAGGAUUGAUAUUUGUCAUUUAAAAAUACUUUCUAUUAAGGAGAAAAAUACUUCAAUUAACAUAAUCAUAUUUUAUCAUAUCUUCUUGAGCUUAGCUCAGUUGAUAGAAACAAUGUAUAAUAUAUGCAAGGUUUGAGUCAAACCUCGACCACCACAAAAAAUAAAUCAUAUUUUACCAUCACGUCAUUUUAUUAUAUUAGUUUACUGUAAAUAUAUUUUAAAAGAAUUCAUGAAAAUCCCCUAAAAAAAGAAUUCAUAAAUCUUCUCCUACAUAAUAUAAUAUAUAUAUUGUAAAACAUGAUUCAACUUAUAUGUAAGUUUUUGUUAACGGAAAGCGAUACCAAUUAAACAAAUCAAAAUUAUUUGUUUCCACCUUUAUUUAACUAAUAAUUAUUCUAUCACUUGCACGGCUGCACCAUCUUCAAAUCCUCAAUCAAGCAACACUAAUAAUUCUUUAUAGUUCUCAUCCUUAGAACUUAGAUCCAAAGAAUUCACUGUAAACAUGUUUUCAACAACAAUAAUAAUUCCUUUCAUUCUCUUCACUUUCACAUACCUUUUAUUCAAAUUCUACUUACGUGAAAAACAAAACACCAUAAAUCAUAAAAAACCACCAGGUCCACCAACACUACCAAUAAUAGGAAACCUUCACAUGUUAGGUAAACUUCCACAUAGAACACUUCAAUCACUGUCCAAAAAAUAUGGUUCAAUCAUGUCCUUACAACUUGGUCAAGUUCCAACAAUUGUUAUUUCAUCUUCAAAAGCUGCAGAAUCAUUCCUCAAAACUCAUGACAUCAAUUUUGCAAGUCGGCCAAAGACUCAAGCAUCUCAGCUCAUUUUUUAUGGUUCCAAAGGGUUGGCUUUUUCUGAGUAUGGUCCUUAUUGGCGUAGUGUAAAGAAACUUUGCACUUUGAAACUUCUUAGUGCUUCAAAAGUUGAGAUGUUUGGUCCUAUUAGGAAGAAGGAGUUGGAUGUUUUGGUUAAGUCAUUAGAGAAAGUUGUUUUGGUAGGUGAGGUUGUGAAUGUUAGUGAGAUUGUAGAGAAUCUUAUUGAAGAUAUUGUGUAUAAGAUGAUAUUGGGUAGGGGUAAGUAUGAGCAAUUUGAUUUAAAGAAGUUGGUUCAAGAAGGAAUGGCUAUGCUUGGAGCUUUUAAUCUGGCUGAUUAUGUUUCUUGGUUAGGUCCUUUUGAUCUUCAGGUAUGUGUGUAAAAGUUGAAGAAAUUAGUUACCUAUUGACUUGAUUUUAUUUUAAGUCUCUUAAGUAUCGUAGCUGUACAUUUUUCAUUGGUCACUUUAUUAUAUUGCACAGUUUUGGGUCCUUCAUGUUUUUUCCUCUUAUGUAUUAAUUGAGGGGUCCUUCAAUAUUUUAGUAUUACAAGGGAGAAAAUAGGGAAGAAAAAAAAAGAGGAUCAUGUAAUUGAACAACACAAUAACACUAGGACACAAUAACACUAGGGUUACCGUCUUUUUUUUCUUCUUUCAAAUAUAUACGUAUGUGAAGAAACUAGACAUUGCAAGUUUAAAUUUAUGUUCUAAGGUGUUCCACAAAUCCUGCGUUAACUUGUAACCUCGUACAACUCGUACAAAUUUACGUUUUUAUGUGUCAAAAAUAUGUUAAGAGCAUGUUUGGCCCUGCUUAUUUGCCACUUAUCUUUUACUUCUAAAGAGAAGUGGGGCCAAACAUAAUUUUGAUAAAGCUCUUAAUAAUAGAAGUGACUUUUUUGUAAAGAAGGAAAUCCAACAAAAGUGACUUUGAAAAUAAGAUAAAAAAAUGAGCUUUGAGAGUGACUUUUCGGAGGUUAUACCUGCUUUUCCUCCUUCGAUUCCCGCAAGCCACUAUAUUUUUUAUUUUAUUAUUAUUUCUGGCAAAUCGGAGGUAAAUUUGAUUUUUGGUGAAAUUGAAUGUUUGACAAGUUUGACCAAGUUAACACAUGUUAAAUUCGGUAAAUUAGAUCGAGUUUAUGAGUUUACUUUUUUUUUUGGCAAACACUUUUUAUAUUUUUUAUUUUUUAUUUUUGGUCCCACUAUGUAAAUCUUAGAAAAUCAAUGUCAUGACGACCAUGUCCCUUAAUUAAUUCUAAAUUUGAGUAAAAAUAAUGGACUACAUAAAGUGACAGAAAAUGGAGGGAUUUGAGGAUUUGUGUGUUGACUUUCACUUUAGUCUCUAGAUCCAUGUUACACAUCCUUGUCGGCAUUUAACGGUCAAUUUUAACGUCAAGCACUAAACUAACCAACGGAGGUAAACAUCCGGGGACCAUUUUGCAUUUUAUCAUAAGUCAAGAUUAUUGUAACAGUGAGGUGCAAAGUCAGAGACUAAAAUGAUUAUUUCUUCAUUUUUUUAUUGUUCCAGUAAGGUAUGUAAAAAUAUCCAAUUAGUAAUUGUCAUUCUUAAUUUAACACUUUGCUAGGGAUUUACACGAACCUGCAAGAAAACCGGUAAAGCACUUGAUGAGGUAUUGGAGAUGAUAAUUACAGAGCAUGAACAAAGCACUAAUGUAGACAAAGUUCGUCAUGAAGAUUUCAUUGAUAUACUUCUCUCAAUUGUGCACCAAACGGUAGAUCCAGAAAAUGAACAAAGUGGUGUUAUUGACAGAACUAACAUCAAGGCAAUUUUACUAGACAUGAUUGUGGCAGGAAUUGAUACAGCCACUACCACGAUUGAGUGGGCUUUAUCUGAACUUUUCAGACAUCCAAGAGUGAUGAAAAAGCUUCAAGAUGAGAUACAAAAUGAAGUAGGAAAUAAAAGAAUGGUCGAAGAGAAUGAUUUGAAGAAGUUGAAUUACUUAGAUAUGGUGGUUGAUGAGACAUUAAGACUUUACCCUGUUGGACCCUUAUUACUUCCUCGUGAAUGUAGAGAAAGCAUAACAAUUGAUGGAUAUUUUAUAAAGGAAAAGACACGAGUUAUAGUAAAUGCAUGGGCUAUAGGGAGAGAUUCAAAUAUUUGGUUAGAAAACGCUGAUGAGUUUUAUCCAGAGAGAUUUAGUGAUAAGAAAAUGAAUUAUCAAGGACAGCAAUUUGAAUCUAUACCAUUUGGUUCAGGUCGUAGACGUUGUCCUGGGAUUCAAUUGGGUUUGGUUACGGUUAGAUUUGUUGUAGCUCAAUUGGUGCAUUGCUUUAAUUGGGAACUUCCACAUAAUAUUAGCCCUUCCAAUUUGAAUAUGGAAGAGAAAUUUGGAGUCACUAUACCAAGGGCUCAACAUUUGCACGCAAUACCGAGUUAUCGUUUGGAAUGUGAUGAGAAGCUUGAAUAGGUCCAUAAAGGACAUUAUUAUGCUUGUAUUCAACAAGUUUAUUACUAGUAAAGAUGUUAUAAGUUGGUCUAAUGGUGCUUGAAUAGAAUAAGUUAAUGAGUAUUGCUAGUUUUUAUUAUAUGUUAAUAGCCAACAUAUGAAUAAAUUAGGAGUGAAGAAAUUAGAGAAAUUAUCAGUUAAUUGCUUAUUGAAUAAGUGUUUAUCAUACAAGUGUUUAUGUAUAUGAUCAGUUAUUCCAAUAAUUAAAGUGAUAAUCCGGUCCACUAUUUUCAACUAACUUGUAACUGAUUUUCUUAAAUUUGUCAUAGAGUGCUAAUUCAACCUAUGACAUCAGGUUCACAAUGGUAUGAAGAAUUAGUUCACUGGUUUAUGCUUGCUUUGUAAUUGUUUUUAGAAAUUUGAAUUAAUAAUAGUCUCAAUUUUAAUUUCAUAAUAAUCAUGAGUAGAGAAUAAUGCCCAGUACCUUAUUGUAAUGAUACCAAAGUUUGGGUUUGGAAUCUCUCCGGUGGUCACACGAGAGUCCAGUGAAAUCUUGUCCAUUAAAAAUUAAUGUAUAUGAGAAUUUUAAAUGUUGAAAAUAAAAGAGAAGACAAUUAAUGGUGCAGAUUGUAUCACUGCAGAAAACUGGAGAGAUUUUCACAGGAGGAAAUCCAUUUCCCCAAAAUUUUAUUUGGAUUUGUUAGUUCAAGACAACUUUUAGGUUGUGAAAGUAUAAAUACAGAUUUUCAUGCAAUUAUAACAUAAGGGAUGCCUAAAAUUCUAGAAAUUAGAGGAACAAAUAAAUAAUUUGAUUAGAGGAAAUAUUGGAAGUAGUGUUUUCAUAGUACUGAAUAGUUUGAUUCACCAUAAAAAACUCCAUCAAUUUUAAAAAUUUAUCAUUAGCUGAGUUAAGGUUUGUAUCUCUGUUUCUUUGAUUAACUUCAUCUUAUUUGUCGUUCUACAAUCUCCAUAGUAACAUUCUAGUUUUGUUGUCAUGUGUGAUAUGUUGUGUUAAAAAAGCUUUAGAAUUUGAAGGUCUACCUCAUUUCUAGAAUUGAUAUUAGCAUGUUUGUGCAAGCGGUUGAUUUAUCAAUUCAGUGAUAAAAACCCACGUUUGAAGAGAAGCUACCUUUUGAAGCUUCUUUAAAUCACGUCUUUCCAGCACACUGGCGGCCGUACGUACGUCCGCUNNNNNNNNNNNNNNNNNNNNNNNNNNNNNNNNNNNNNNNNNNNNNNNNNNNNNNNNNNNNNNNNNNNNNNNNNNNNNNNNNNNNNNNNNNNNNNNNNNNNGGAGACAUCCCAGACACUUGGCAUGAUCAUGAUUGAACAGAGAAGCUUUGCACAGCUUGAUGUGUAGAGGUACCAGAGGAGUUGCGACGUUGCGGACAUCAAGUCUCGGAGCUUCUUCACACACUUCGAUCAUAUUCACAGCGGCAUGAUUUGGUAGCGGAUUGUCGAGGACAUGUGGGACAUUAUUCUCAAAAGUCAGCUUCCCUUGAUCGAUGAGCUUCUUCACGAUAUACUUCAAAGCAUAACACCCCUCGACGUCAUGACCCAAGGCACCUUGAUGAAAGUCACAUUUGAGAUCAGACCUGAACCUUGGAGGCAACGGAUCAGGUGGGGGCUUACCCUGUCUAGUUGUACAAUGACCUCUCUGGAGUAGAGUUGGAAGAAGUUCUGCAUACAACAUUGGUAUAGGAGGGAAGGUUGGCCUGGCUUGCUGAUUUUGUUGUUGUUGUUGAACCGGCAUCUGUUGUUUCAUCUGUUGGGCAAUUGCAUUGACGGGCACUUGAGGCUGGCCCGGCGGCAAAGGGUACUGAUGAUAAAACGGUGGGAAGAACGGAUGCUGAGAAUACGGCAUAUAUGGGUAUGACGGAGGCAUUUGAGCUGCAUUGAUAGGAGCAACAGUAGCCAUUGAUUGCCCGGCUCCAGCUGACACCAUCCCCACUUCCGUUUCUUUCUUUUUGUGGUGUCCAUUACCAUAUCUCUUCGACGCAUUCACAGAGGAUUCAGCUUUCUCAAACACGAUGAUUCCAUCCCUUACGGCUUCCUCAAGACGGGUUCCCAUGGUGACCAUCUCCGAAAAGUUGUUCGGGGCAGCGAUGAUCAUCCUCUCAACAUAAUCUUUCUUCAACGUUUUUAAGAACGUCUGGGUCAUUUCUUCCUCAUCUAAAGCAGGAGUGAUACGGGCAGCCGCCCCUCUCCACCUUUGCGCAUAUUCACGGAAACUUUCCUCCUUCUUCUGAGAUAGGGACCUGAGAAACUCCCUAUUUGGCCUCAGUCGAGUGUUAAACCCAUAAUGGCUCUUGAAAGCGGUGGCUAACUCAUCAAAGGUAUGGAUGUCAUUCUUACUCAAACUAGUAUACCACUCUGCGGCAUCCUCCAUCAGACUAUCCUGAAAACAGUGGAUCAUAAGGGAAUCAUUGUCUUUGUAAUUGCCCAUCUUCCGGACGUAUUUGAUGAUGUGAUUUUGAGGACAAGUUAGCCCGUUGUACCGGUCGAAGUCCGGAAUCUUGAACUUUUUAGGAACAUCCACUUUUGACACUAAGCAAAGGUCUUGAGUUUUGACAGAGUUUGCACUCCCUCGAUUGGCCUGGAUCUCGUGACGGAGUUCUUUAGCAAGUUCCUCCAUCAUCUCUUCCAUAGUCUUGGUUACGGGGAUGCUUCUGUGCUGUGUGUUGACGUUAAUACCUUGAGGCAGAGUGUGUACCAGAGGCUCAGUGACAGCUGCUGUUGUUUGUGGCAAAGUAGCAAUGAUGGAGGCGGCAUUUGUUGCAGGGAUCAGAACAUUGUUAGCAGUGCCCGAGGUGCUUGCUGUAGCAACGGGAGUGAAGAACGGUGGAAGCCCAUACGGAAACCCCACUGGCAUAGUAAAGCGGUUGUCUGCAGAAGUGGUAGGGAGCACGCUUGUAGUUACUGGUGCAGCUGUGGUUGUAGGGAUAGCUGUAGCUGAUUGCUCUUGAGCAGCUAGUAGAGCAGUCAUGACGUCAUUAGCUUUAGCCAAUUCCUCCUUUAGAGAGGCCAACUCGGUGCGAAGCUGAGCGUUCUCUUCUUCCAUAGCCCUUUUCUUUCUUCUGUAUUCUCUGGUUCGAUCAAUUCUAUCUGGUUCGUAAACUCUCUGAGCACGAGCCACUUUUCACACUGUGGCAGAGGAACCAGGAGAUAGUGAGCACUUGGAAGCCUUUGUGACCAAUGCAUGAUGCAUAUGAUGCAUGAUGUGCAAAUGCGAAUGCAAAAGACUUAUUUUUUUUCAUCGAAGGAAUUUUGAACCAAUUAGAAAUCUUUGCAAAUAAUCAAAACUACAUAGUAUUUUUUUUUAACAGGAAGACUUUGAAAUUUCAACAAGAUAAACACAUGGAGUCCUCAAGCAUAGGAAGUAGUCGGAGGAUCAUCGGACUCGGAAUCUGAAUCACAGUAUCUGGCAAAGAAGUCUCGUCGUCCUCGGGCUCUCUUGGAAUCCCUCAUAAGCAGCUCGUCUUUCUCUUCUAGUUCCCUCCGGGCCUUAGCUAGCUCUUUCUUCAACAUCAGAUUCUCAUGAGUCUUCUGCUCAUCUCUACCAUCCAAAGUCAUGAUUAGAUUCUCGGCUUGAUUGUACCGAGCCUUCCACACUUGCUUCUCACGACUCUCCAUAGCUAGAUGCUCCUGAUACAUAUCCUGAGUCGCGGGGAGCAAAGGUAGAGGCAUAGAUGGGGUAGAUGAAGACACAUAUCUCAUAGCUGGAUAAGGCAUACCAAUCUCCUCAGCUCGAUCUAUCACCCACUGGGUAUAGGCCUCAUGAGCGACACCGGAUCUCACACCUAGAUGCUUCACACUCUUCCUUCGAACCUUGGACCAAGCAUCCACGAAAGCUUUCCUUUGUCCGGUAGGAGCAUUCGUGUAGAAGAAGAACUCUGGAGAUGUGGCAAGAUUGAUGGGCUUCGACUUCAUAGGGAAACCAAACUGUCUCAUAGCAAGCUCGGGAUUGUAGUUGAUUCCUCCACGAGUACCAAGAAGAGGUACAUUGAGAAAGUCUCCACAACCCAUAAUGAUUUCCUUCACUUGAGCGGCAGGAGUGAGCCAGACGACCUCAUCAGGAGUGAGAGCCAUAAUCCGCUGAGAGUAGGACCAAUUUUCCGAGUUAUCAUGGAAGGAACUCGGAAGGUGCGAAAUAAACCACCUAUACAAAAGAGAUGUGCAGCAAAGAAUAUACCCACGGCCCUUGAGAGUCCUGUCAUGAAUGGCGUGGUAGGUGUCCGCUAGCAAAGUAGGAACCGGGUUCUUAGAAUGAAAGAUCUCGAUAGCAUUCAUGUCCACGAAGUUGUCAAGGUUCGGGAAGAGAAUGAGCCCGUAGAUAAGCAAAGCAAGAAUAGCCUCGAGUGUGUCCUGGCGAGUGGUACCGAGAUUAGCCUGAUCAAGAAGAUACUUCGAAGUGAAACCCCGGAUGUGAGACUUGGUAAUAAGAUGGUUGGAGACGUCGGAAGUCUUGAGGUAGAGAUCCUUAGCAACAACCAGAGGAGUAAGAGGAGUCCCGGGACCGGCGAAAGGCGUCUUCUCGGCUAUAGGUAACCCCACUAGAUUGGAGUAAGCCUCGAGAGUAGGAACCAACUGGAAGUCCGGGAAAGUGAAGCAGCGGAAGCUCGGAUCAUAAAAUUGCACCAGAGUGUGCAUUAGCUUCUCGUCCACAUCGGUUCGGAGCAAAGUAAGCAAUCCCCCAUACCGGAGUCGGAACCCUGUUUGACUCUUGACCUUGAGCGCCAACUCUCUCAAACUAACCAAAUCCACUUCCUUGAACUUGUAGCACUUAGUCUUCUUCAUACCUGUGAUUAUUUACAAAAAUUCUCAUUUGUUUAAACCCUUCGAUGAAUGCAUGAAAAAUAUUUAUGCAUGAAUGCAUGUAUGCAUGAUUGUGUUGUUUAGUUACAAUGUGGGUUGAGAUUCAAAGUAACAAGGCCACGGAUGGACACGGCGUCCGGUGAACUAAGGCUUUGGAUAGUAGUAACCAAGGUUCUAACACAGUUCCCAAACUGCAACCUCUCUCACAUAUAUCAUGGUAGUACAGGACGACACCCGUUCCACGAUUAUUUGUGAGAAGGUCUAGUUUGAGUGUAGUAUCGCGUGACGACUAAAGUUUUGAGACAACACUCAAUUUAGCCACCGCACUACGUCCUAAAAAGGCUAGGAUGGGUUUGGUAACUACGGUUCAUAGCUUCGUCGAACAAUUGAAAGUGAAGUGCCUAAGCAUGACGACACACGCCGACAAUAUCACCUUCAAAAUGCCUCAGCUAUGUGAGAUUGAUCGCAUAAUCCAAUACACGAGGCAACCCCCGGAUCGAAUUGUCGAUUAUAUCUCUACCUAAACAUAAGUUCACUCAGCCCGGGUAUAGGACUUUUGAUAUUCUCACCCCACACGUCAAAUGAAAGUAAACAAAUAUUCACAUAUGUAAGCAAUAAAAUAAAACAUAAAUAUAAACUAAGGAAAACUAGGCGCGACCCGCUUAAAAAAGUCCCCAGUGAAGUCGCCAUUUCUGUUAUCAUGGUUUUUGGGUACCAAGUCAUUAAUUGGACUUGUACCUUUCGACCGUUGAUAUCUCUCUUUUUUCUUGGGAAGGGAAAAAUUGAGAAAAAACCCUUAGAUUCUAAGUUCGGGGGUCGGUUUUACUACGGGAAGGUGUUAGGCACCCGGAGUAACUAUAGUCCUCUAUAGGAGCCGUUUUCCUAAGUCGAUUUUUACGCUUUAUUUUUACCUACUUUUGAAAAUGGGAGGUUUAUUUAGUUAAGAGUGGGGGUGAGAAGAAGUAGAAUUUUGAUUUUAUUUCGGCUUGGAUGAGUUUUGACUCAUUGCCUACGUACCCUUUUAAGGGAUCAAAACCGUUCGUAGUUCUUGCUAAAAAGACUUGUUUUUGUUUUAAUUGUUUGAUUUUAAGUUUUGAAAAUGGUUUUGAAGAAGGAGAUUGGGAGGCUUCAUGAGCAUUAGAUUUAGCAAAAAGUGAGGUUUGAUUAGUGAUUAAAAAAGAAAGUCUAAAUGAUUAAGAUGAAUUGAAUUUUUCUCAAGAAAAAAAAGAAAGGAAAAGAAAUGAAGUGUUGACUUCAUGUUUAUUAUGAAAAUUUUUGAAGUGAAGUUCAAUUGUUUUUUUUUUGGAAAAAAGAUGGAUUUUCUCUAGGUGUUUAAAACCUAAACGCUUAUUUAACCAUACAAUCCUAUGCAUACAUCUAAGGUGAGUGUGUGCGUGUCGGUGCGUCAUAGUGUCCAUAGUCCAUAUUACAAAAAUUGCCUAAAUACAUUCUAUGGCCCCUUUGCCAAGCUACAAACCAAUGAUGACAAAUUACAUCACUAAAUGAAUUAAAACUUGCAAAAAUAAAUGCUAGGCUAAAGAGGGUGGAGGGAAUGCUAAAUGGGAUGCAUGAAACAUGGGAAUAAACUUGUUAGUCAAAAGAAAAAACAUAAUAAGCACUAAGAAAUAAAAUCAUGCAAGAUGACACAAAAAGUUAACAAAAUGACAUUAAACCCUAAAAACUUAGGUAUGAAACCUAAAGCAUCCUUGGCCUCUAAUUCUCAUGCUUUAACAAAUUUUGAAAGAGUUUUCUUUAUCUCAAGUUAUAGCAUGAAAUUAUUGGAAACAUGCAAGCAUGGUUUCAUGCCAUAUUUUCUAGAAUAAACUUGGCAUUUUAUAUCUUUCAAAAUAUGCAUAUAUUGCUCAUAAAAUCAAGCACUCAUGAACCAAAUCAAAACAGCAAAACAACACGAAAUUAUAGGCACAAAUUUCUCAUAUUAACACAUCAAAAAGCUUUUAUCACAUAUUCGCACAUCAAGGACAAAUGUAUGAAGAAGAAUCCAUAACAAAUAAUUCAAAGAGAAUUAAAAUGCUAUGAAUUAACCAUACCAAAAUUUCAUAGAUCCUUAAUGUGCAAAAAUGUCAUAAAAACACUAAGAAAAUAUCAGGAAACAUGCAUGAAUUUUUCUAGGAAUUUUAUCACAAUUUUAAUCAAGACAUAGGUACAGGUAGCAAAAAUAGAGGUGUGAAAAGCACAGGAAUAGCAAAACGUAAAGAUCCAAAGGAAACAAAGGCCCAACCCAAAACCCUAAGGAACCGGAUUCACAGGAGCCACAGGAUUGAUCCAGGGUCCUGAAACCCUAGAUCAAACGGCCUGGAAUCAACAGGAUUGGACCGGUCUUGGACCGGUCUGGUUCACUAGCUUAUUUAAAAGGCAUGGCACCGGUUUUCUUCAUUUUUCACUCCCCUUUCUCUCUCUAGCUCUUCUCUCUUCUCUCACCUCUCACCUCUCUCUAAACCUCGCCGCCGGCGAGGAUGAAGCUACGGCGGAGACCUUGAAGGUCCGCCGGAAACUUCAUCUUCUCCGGCGAGUUCAUGCAGUUUCCGGUGACCUAAAUUUCCAGAUUUCAAAGAUUCUUACUUCGUUUGACUCGUCCUUUAACCCUAAACACGAAUCCGGCAUUUGUUUUUUCAAAAACGGCUUUGAACGACGUAGAUCUUGAAAAAGCUUUUACGGUUUUGAAAUGAUUUUUGAUUUUUUUGAAUGAGAUCAUUUAGAUCUUUAAAGAUCUACAUCGUUUCGUCGUUUGAUUACUUUUUGACGCCUGUUUUCGCUUUCAAAACGUUGAUCCUUACGGAUCUGGAUUUUGAUGUUUACGGUUAUAGUUUUCUUUGAAUUCUGGAACCUUUGGAUCUGUUUUGCUUGCGUGAUUUUUAGGUUUAACAGUGAUAUUGCUUUUGAAAAAGAGUAUGAGUUUUACCUAAGGUUUUGGUUGAAACCUUUAAUGGAGAAAUUCUUUGGAAAACUUCAAUCUCUGAUGCUACGUGAUUUGGCUUUGAAUCCGGAAAUAAACCGGUGUUCCUGCUGGUUUCUUGCUUUAUCGCCUUCUUCGCCGGUUUAAACCUUCAUCAUCUUUCUUUCUUCUUCGUCUUCCUCACUGUAUCUUCGUGAUCGGUGCUGGAGUUUGCCUUUGGCGAAUUCGCACUUCGAAUUGCGAAGAUAUUGAUUCAAUGAUGAUGAUUCUUCAAAGAAUCACUGAGAAUCCAUGAAAAAUAGCUUGAAUUUGUGUAGUUUCUGUUUCUGGAAAACGGUUAGGUUUUUUGUUCUUGGUGUUCUUGAUGAAUCUGAGGAAUUUUUUCUGUUUUGAUUCAGUUGCUGAGAAAGAGAAAAUUUGGAAUGUGUUUAUGAGUUGGCGUGUGUUCUCUGGCUCUGAGUGGCACUGUGCACCUUUUAUAGCUUGACAUGUGUGUAUCUGAACAAAUGAGAAAGUGACACCUGGACCUGAAAAAAAAAGAUGGCACGGCCUUGGGCAAAAAAUGAAAUUGGACCUUUCUGCAAAAUUGAAAAAAUAAGGGACUAAACUGCAAUUGACAAAAAGGACUGAAAUGUAAAAAAAGAAAAUUCUGGACUGAAAUGCAAUUUUGGGACCUCACUUGAGGGACCAAAAUGCAAUUAAAAAAUAAAAUUGAAUAAAAAACGUAAUUUGACCCAACGUAAAGCGAAACAAAAAAAUAAAAUUGACAAAACGGACUAAAACGAACCAAUGGCCUAAAUGAGGUACUUCAAAGUAACCUCCCCAUGCCAAAAUUUUAUGUGAAAUGACCAAAAUGCCCCUAGGGCUAAAAACGACCUAAACAGAUUCAAAUUGACCUGACACUGACUCAGACGCAAGUUUGAAAUGAAUUUUAACAAAGUUUACUGAUGAAAUGUUUAAAAGUAAUCUGAAAAGACUCAGAGACAGUCACAAGGAUGAAAAUGGGUCCCACUGCAGGAAAUGACCAAAAUACCCUUCUGUAUGACUUUUUGCAAAUUUUGGAAUAAACUGUAGAAAAAGCAAUGUAAUGAUCCAGAGACACUUUUGAAUGACUUACAAGACAAGUAAAGACAUUUUGAAAGGUUUUAUGCAAGAAAAACAUAGGUAAAAUUGUGAUUGAAAAUACUGCGAGGCAGAGACAAAUUGAACUGUGCAGUUGAAAUUUGAUAAUUGACAAAGUUUGAAAUGAAAUUGGGCCCAGUAUUUUUAGGUCCAAAAACAGGGUAUAACACCUCUAAUCCCAACAAAGGAGAUUUAGCUACUCAUUGUCAUGGAAGCCUUGCAAGAAUGAAUUGAAGAAGCAAGAUUCAUUACAACUUGUGAUGUCUCAACAAAGGAUGAAGAAUCCACUCUCUAUCACUCUCACUCUAUAAAGCACAAGCCCUAUCUCUCUCUCUCUAAGAAUAUUACAAGUGAAAAACUAAGAGAAAAACUAUCUAAAAACUAUAUAAAAAACUAUCUUUUUCUGAAAUGGUUGAGUGGGCUAUUUAUAGAAUUCUGAGUCUGCCUUCACUCGCCUCGCGAGCUGCUUCAUUCGCCAAGGCGAGUUGAAGUUUCUUCCCCAUUGGGUUUGUGCCACGUCAGCAUUUAGAGGCUAAACCGCCCUUACUCGCCUCGCGAGUCCUUCCAUUCGCCACGGCGAGUAAGCUCGCCUUCUACUCGCCAUUGCGAGUUGGUGGCGUGUGAUCUUUGUUGCAUUCUGGAAUUGCUCGCCUUUUCUGCUUGCCAUGGCGAGUUGGAGGCGAGUGAUCUCCUUUUUCUGCCUUUUUGUACUUUUCUCGAUUUUCUUCUCUUUGCUUGAUGUCUUGAGUUCGAAUCCUGCACAAAUGGGUGAAGUAAGAUAGAUAAAGCGUAAAAGGGCAAUAAUCACUUAUUUCUCGGCUUUUCCCUUAAUAACUUGCAAAACAAGUAACAAAAGUGCCUAAAAUAUAUCACUUAAAUUACAACUUUCUAGCACUUAUCAAACUCUCCCCAACUUAACUCUUUGUUUGUCCUCAAACAAAAUCUUGAAAAUCAAACAAGUUAAUAUGACAAGACACAAGUACAAAAGGUUUGAAAACAUUUUUAGAUGAAUGAUUCAAAGAGAAUGCGCGGGCAAGUCUGAGUUUCCAACUAAUCUGGAAUUCUACCACAAAUAUGAAAUGAGUUCUAUGCACAAAGUUCAUGUCAAAUAGUUCAAGUCAAUAAAACAUUUAUUCACGAACCACACCUAACACACUUCUUUGUAAGUAGAUAUGCAAUUGAAAUCAAAUGAGUGAGGGUUAUGAACACACAUCCGGCAAUCAAGUUAACAUCCAAAUCAAGUUAUAUGUCCAUCCAAUUAUCAUUUCAAAAAGCAUAAAAACAUGGAUCAAAAGGUCUUUUAGGGUUGUAAUUUGGCUUGGCUACAAAAGAAAGGACAUUUGUGGGUCAAUUGAAUUCAAAUGGUCAAGCAUAAGGGAACAUUCCUUCUAUUCACAUUCAAAAGACAAAUUUACUAGAAUUCCCUAACAAACCCUUGGUGUUAAAACAUGAUACUCCUUGAUCUUGACAACUUAUUCUAUUUUUGGAUUUUUCUUUCUUUUUCUUUUUCUUCUUUUCUUGUUUUUAUCAUGUACACAUUUUUCUUUUUCUUUCUUUUUUCAUAUACAAACAAUGUUGUCUUGAUCAAAAUUUCUGAUUACACCAAUUCACUUGACAAAUGAUGAACAUCUACCUUUUCUCCCCAACUUGAAUGAAAACAUACCCUAUUUGAAUGUUCCCUUAAUCUAUGGCAAAAAGGGACAAAUAACAAUGAAGGUUUAGGGUUCAACAAUUAAAACAUAUCAAGGUCCGAUAGUGCAACAAAAAUGAACUGGAUUUUGAAAAAUAUAGGGCGAAUUCAUCAAGCAUUGUGCUUAUGAAUUGACAGUUCAUAAUUGAGGACCUUGCUUCAUUUGGCUCAAGUGGGUUAACAAAUACUCGCUCUUCUCACAAGGUAGGCUAUUUGUGGUCAAGUAUGUUUCUCUCAUUAAACAAAAUAUGCCUUGAUCCUUUCCAUGUCUUUACACAAUUUAAAACAAAUAUUAGAUUUAACAUAAAAUGACCGAGUUAAAACAAUGAAUGCCGGUCUCCUUGCAUAUAGUACAAAUAUUUGAGGUUUCCUCACUUUUUAGCUAGUACUAAGUGGUUCACAAACAAACACAUUAUCGAGGAGAACUAAAUGAAUUGAAAUUUGUGCAAAGUACUCGUUUCCUAUUCAAGUAAAAACCUAGAAAAACUGGAAACUUGUACCUUGGCUUUGCGCUUUAUCACAAACCAUCUGUUAUUAUCAAUCAUCUGAGAAUUUUGCUCAAGUUUUGGCUCUUUCAAGCGCUUUGAAAUUUGAAGCUUUGAGCAUUUUCUUUUCAAUAAGCAAGAGUGAUAAACUAAAGAAACUUCCACAAUUUUCAAAACAAAGUACUUGAUAUAAACCAAAAGUGCUAAUAUAAAACAACACAAUACAACUUUGAACAAUACGAAUAUGAAUACGAAAAUACCAAAAUAAUUAAACAAAAUGCUAACUAAACAAAGUGAGUCAUUGUGCUAAAUUUAAAAUAUGAACAGAAGCAAAUAUUGUCAGAAGAAAUGAAAGAGAAAGAAAGAAUAGACUGAAAGCUUUAUAAAAAUGUCACUCAAUAAACGGUGAGCUUUCAAAGUCAUUCUUUUCCUCUUUCAACCCUGCAUGUCAUGAUCAUCUGAACCACCAGUUGCACUUGGGACUCUGUCUGGAUCGUCUCUGUCAGAAUCUCCCAUCAAUAUAUCGUCAGAAAGCGUCCCGAACGAUGAUCCACCCCCUCCGUAAGGAUCUGGCCUGCCCUCAGGCCAAGAAACAUGAGCCUGAUAGGCCUCUGGUGUCAUGAAUUGUGACAUCACCUCCGGUGGGUACCCAGCCUGCUGCUGCAUCACAUACUGAGACUGCUGAAGAUAUGUAUUAGCACGGUUGGUUGCGUCCAGCAUGUUCCAUGUAUGGGUAUGGCACUGGUAUUGCCAUUGAGCGAAGCUUGAAAAGUCAAAAGCAGCAGUGUGUGGGUCUAGAUGUGGUGGAAAGUGGGGUUGUGGUUCAGAUGAUGGUUGAGGUCGUGGUGGAGGUGCCCCAGAAGAUGAUGCUUGUUUGCUUUUAUCCUUCUUUGUUUCACCCAUAAUGUAUCGGGUGAUGAAAGCAUCAUUGAUCGGGUUCCGGAUCUUCUCAUGGACACUGGUUGGUAGGCGCAUGCCGGUAUCUUUAAUGAGUCCCAUGAUUAAACCGGGAAAAAAGAGACGAGCUUCUCUUUCACCUCUUCCUUGCAGGGUGACCAUUCGGAGUUCCCAAGCAAUGGUCCGGGCAAUAUCUACCUUGAUCCCCUUGAGGAUGUAGUAGAUUAAAGGACACACCUCGACAACACAAUCAGACAGAUGACUAUUGGGCCUGACAUUAUAAAGAAUGAAUUUUUGGAUAAUUUUGGCCUCAUUGGUCAUGAAUUUGUAUUGGGCCCGAUACUCUCUCCCUGCAUCACUGAUGUCAUAGUUAUAGUCUCCCAACAAGAGAAAUCGUUUGAUUUCUUCAUGGGGGCCCGGGAGGAUAAAGUGGCCAAGGUUUUGCUUCUCAUGAAAGUCAUCAAGGUCGUCUGGGUAGGCUAACUCAAAGGGGUUGCCAAGGUAUGUAUUUAUUGCCUCACGGUCAAACCGGAUAGUUCGACCCCUCACAAAAGUUUCGAAUGUAAAUGGGUCAGUGUGUGGAUUUUCAGGUAGGGCAUUGGCAUAAAACUCACGCACUAACUCGGCAUUAAUAUCUGUUAUGGGUUGAAGGAGUCGUUCCCAUCCUUGAUCGAGUAAAAGUUUGGCAAUUUCUUUAUAGGGUCCCUCGGGAUUAAGGUUAAAGACCCUCUCACACCACAUGGAUUGGUCAAGCAGUUCAAUAUAUCUAUCUUGAUGGUAGCGAGACCUAAAUCUCUCCCUCUCAAAGGCUUGGUUUCUAGGUGGGGGUCGGGUUGCGGAUGUUUCUCCUUUCUUGCGUUUACCAGUGUUAACGGGUUUCUUUGGAGCCAUACCUGCAAACACAACCAGGAAUUCCACAAACACCAAACAGACAAUUAAAUAUCAGUAUGGAACAAAAAAUAUUGCAUGUUCUGUUACCACUCGCCUCGCGAGCAGGUGCACUCGCCAUGGCGAGUAGUUGAAAUUUUCUGGGUUUCAGAUUGCUCACUCGCCUUGGCGAAUGAUGAAGCUCGCCAUGGCGAGUUGCCCAGAAAAUGACAAAAAUCGACCCUUUUUCAAAAUUUCUUUCAGUUUCAACAUUCUUAACCCUAAAUAUAGUAAUUCCGACCCUGAUAAUGACAAAGAGAUGAACUAAAUCAUGCUUUUGAGUUGAAUGUCGAAUUAUACCACAAAAACCCUAAUUUUAAUUUUAUUUUUAAUUUUUACAAAAGGGUUAACAAAAAUGUGGAUUGGAAUCAGAACAACCACGAAUUUGGGCAUGAUUAUGUUUCAUCUGAGUCAUGUAGGUAUCAGUUUGAAGAACAUUACACUAUCUACUACCCUAGGGUUUUUUUUUUUUUUUUUUUUUUUUUUUUUUUUUUGCAUGCAAAUUUGAAAUGAAUGGCAACAAAGUGAAUACAAACCUGAAUCAGAAGUAAUCUAAGUGCAGAAAUGAGUAUGCAAUAAGCUUGACUUGGAUUGACUUGAUAAAUUGGAAAAAGGGUAGUGUUGAGGUGUUAGGGUUUGAGAGAAGGAAGAAAAAAUUUGUGUGGUUGAUGAGAGAGAAAUGCAAAACCGAAAAUGAUGAAUUAAAGUUGGUAAAGGGUGGUUAAGAGAGAUUAAUGAGGGAGUUAGUGGCUUUGAAAACUGAAACUGUCAGAACUGCUGCCAUUCGCCUCGCGAGCAUAUGUAUUCGCCAUGGCGAGCAAUUUGGUGGUCAACGCAGUCAAAGGACAGUUUUACUCGCCAUGGCGACUAGUUGUACUCGCCUCGCGAGUAAUGACAGUUCAGACUUUGCUUUCUUUUGGCUUCUGAUUUGUGAAUGGUUUUGGUAUGCACAUGACUCCUACACCUAGUAUGCAUUAUAAAAAUAAAUAACUUACAAAGUUGGGUUGCCUCCCAACAAGCGCUUGUUUAACGUCGUUAGCUCGACGCCUUUUUCGUUAGGGUGGCCAAAAUGAAACGGACAACACAUCAUCUUUUGUAAUCCUGCGUGUUGGGAGGAAUUCCAUGAAUUUGAAGUAUAAUUGAUGUGGAGUCCAUAUCCUCCCUAACUUUGGUUUAUUGAACAAGGCACAAAUCUCAUCUAUGAUCCGAUCAAUCUCCAACUUGUUCACUUUCUUCCCCUUUCCUUCCAUUGAUUCUUCCUUGAUUAGUAUCCGAUCCUCUUUCUCUGUCACCUCCAUCACUUCUUCAUUUUCAACAGUUUCGACCUCUUCAGUAUAUGGCCGUUCUUGAGGAAAUUCUUCUGGAUGUAGUGGCUCUAAUUCUUCCACCAUUUUCAUUGUGCUACAUUCUUCUAGUAUUAUGUCUUCCUCGGUAUCAUCAACACCUUCUUCAACAAUCUUUCCGACUUCCACAAAUGUAUUUGAAUUAUUUUCUUGUUUUCUGUGAGUGGAUUGAAUGUUGGCUUGAAUAUCCAUGAUUUGUUCUUGCAUUAUUUCCAUCUGCAAGGAUAGAUUCUUCAAUCUCUGAUUGGUAUCCUGCAUGUUUAUCAUGGAUUGCUGCAUGAAGAUAUUCAAAGUAUUUUCCAUCUUUGAUAUUCGUUCAUCUUCAUAGGGAUGUUGUUGAUACUGUUGAUAUGAUUCAUACUCCAAUGGAGUGUAGAAGUUGUUAUAACCAUGAUCAGCCAUGAUUGCAUUUAUGUAGAGAAUCUGAAACGGAUAUAACUAACAAGAAAUUUUUCUUUGUAUGCAAAGAGGGGUUAGUACCAAUAACUAUACAAAAGAAAAUAUAUUUACAGAGUAUUUACUAAUGCUUAAAAUGAUAAAAUAGUCGCGAUGUCUACGAUAUCUAAACGCCAGUCCCCGGCAGCGGCGCCAUUUUGAUGUAGUAUUUUUNNNNNNNNNNNNNNNNNNNNNNNNNNNNNNNNNNNNNNNNNNNNNNNNNNNNNNNNNNNNNNNNNNNNNNNNNNNNNNNNNNNNNNNNNNNNNNNNNNNNUUUUGCAUCAAACAAUUGUAAGUAUUUAUAUCGUCUCCUCAGGGACUAGUGCGAUAUCGCGGACCGUUCGACACCAAAUAUCAUUUCAAGUUAAACGAUAGUUGAUUGUUUGUUUUAGUAACUGAAUUGCAAAUGAUACAAUUGAGAUUAAUAGGGCGUAAAACUUGUUAGGAUUAGAGUUCCUUGAUCGAGCGUCGCACGUAACCUAAUGAUCAUACAUGGAUUCUAGCUUUUCUUUGAUAUUAUCACGUAUCCCUCGACAACACCAUUCGUGUCCAAACAAUAUUGUGAAAUCAAUUGUAUCAUUCAAUGGUCGAUGUCUCAAACUAUUGAAUGAUUCAAGAGUCGAUCUUAUCGUUCAAUCGAUGAUUUCUCAAUCUAUUAAAUGAUAAGAAAGCUUUAGGUUUGGAUACUCAAGGUGAUUAUCAAAACAUCGAUUCCAUGUCUAGAAACUAUGUUUUGAUAGAUGGUUAUUCUAAACCUAGAUUCAAAAGUAUUUCUCAAUCACAAUUAAAUCAAAGAUAAAGAUUAAAGUGCAAGAAUAACCUCAAUAUCAAUUCAAAUGCUAGAACCAUAUAUUUAUAGAUCAAACGAUUACAUGUUAAACUAUGAUCAAGUACCUCUAAUCCCAACAAAGGAGAUUUAGCUACUCAUUGUCAUGGAAGCCUUGCAAGAAUGAAUUGAAGAAGCAAGAUUCAUUACAACUUGUGAUGUCUCAACAAAGGAUGAAGAAUCCACUCUCUAUCACUCUCACUCUAUAAAGCACAAGCCCUAUCUCUCUCUCUCUCUAAGAAUAUUACAAGUGAAAAACUAAGAGAAAAACUAUCUAAAAACUAUAUAAAAAACUAUCUUUUUCUGAAAUGGUUGAGUGGGCUAUUUAUAGAAUUCUGAGUCUGCCUUCACUCGCCUCGCGAGCUGCUUCAUUCGCCAAGGCGAGUUGAAGUUUCUUCCCCAUUGGGUUUGUGCCACGUCAGCAUUUAGAGGCUAAACCGCCCUUACUCGCCUCGCGAGUCCUUCCAUUCGCCACGGCGAGUAAGCUCGCCUUCUACUCGCCAUUGCGAGUUGGUGGCGUGUGAUCUUUGUUGCAUUCUGGAAUUGCUCGCCUUUUCUGCUUGCCAUGGCGAGUUGGAGGCGAGUGAUCUCCUUUUUCUGCCUUUUUGUACUUUUCUCGAUUUUCUUCUCUUUGCUUGAUGUCUUGAGUUCGAAUCCUGCACAAAUGGGUGAAGUAAGAUAGAUAAAGCGUAAAAGGGCAAUAAUCACUUAUUUCUCGGCUUUUCCCUUAAUAACUUGCAAAACAAGUAACAAAAGUGCCUAAAAUAUAUCACUUAAAUUACAACUUUCUAGCACUUAUCAGGGGCAUCUGCAGACCCGGUUCGGUUGACAAGUUUACGGAAGAAGAUGAUUGAGUUAAUGCUAUGGAGCCUGUUAUUUCUGCAAAAGACAAUGAUUUUCUCACAGCUUCGUUUCAGGUCCAGGAAUUUAAGGAUGCAAUGUUUUCUAUGCUUCCGGAUAAAUGUCCAGGUCCAUAUGGUUUUAAUCCUGUAUUUUUUCCAUCAUUUUUGGUCUAUCGGUAGUCUUGAUAUCUUUAAUGAAUGUUUUCUUUAAGAAGCUAAAUUAGCCCACUAAAUUGGCAUUGGAGAGAAUCGAACCUGAGAUCUUGAAGAUCUUUAAUGAAUGUUGCUCGUGGCUUAAUCACAAUCACUUUCUACCUUCACUUAAUUCCACAAAUAUAGCUUUGAUUUCCAAAGGUACUGAUUGGCAGCCUAUAACUUUGUGUAAUGUUCAAUAUAAAUUGGUUGUCAAAGUCCUAGCUAAUAGACAUAAGAGUAUCCUCCAUAAGUGCAUCUAUGACAAUCAACCAACUUUUGUUAUGGGGCGCUCCAUCAUUGACAAUGACAUGAUAGCUAUCGAAGUUGUGCACCAUAUGAAAGUUAGUAAGCGUGUUAGAUAUGAAAAAAAAAUCUCUCAAGCUUGAUACUAGUAAUGCCUAUGAUCGUAUUGACUGGUUAUUGUGGUGUGUAUCGAAGCUGUUGACUAUUCUGUUAUUGUGAACAAUGAUUUGGAAGACCUAUUAUUCCCGGAAGAGGUUUACUUCAAGGAGAACCUUUAUCACCUUAUCUUUUUAUUUUGUGUGUUGAACGAAGAUGGGAUAUCCACGACAUUUCUAUUUACAUAAAUGCACUUGUUAUUUCUCACCUUUUAUUUGUCGAUGAUUGUUUCUUAUUUUUCAGGGCUAAAGAGCGAUAAGCUCUAACCAUGAAAAGUAUUCUUUAGACUUACGAGGUAGCCUCCUGUUAAGCUAUUAGUCUCCCAAAGUUUGAGGUUUAUUAUUGUAGCAGUGUAUCAAAUCCGUUGAAGGAUUCCAUAACCCUCAUCUUAGGAGUUAGAGCUGUUAUGGGAACAGGGAAAUAUCUUGGCUUGCCAUCGAUGGUUCGUCGAAGUAAAGAAGCAACUUUUAGUUUUAUCAAAGACCGUAUUUGGCAUAAAAUCAAUCCAUGGAGAAGAAAGUAUCUAUCCAAAGUGGGUAGAGAGGUAAUGAUCAAGUCAGUGCUUCAAAAUAUUCCAUCUUAUAUUAUGAGUAUCUUUCUUUUUCCAAAUAAGUUAGUCGAAUCCAUGGAAAAAAAAUUAUAAAUUCUUUUUGGUGGGGCCAUGGAUGAUUAAUGAGAAGAGGGAUGCAUUGGUUGUCUUGGGAGAGAUUAUCAAUUCAUAAAAAUUAUGGAGGUAUGGGUUUCAAGGAUCUCACAUCUUUUAAUGUGUCUAUGUUGGGGAAACGAGGUUGGAAGUUCCACACUGAUACAUCGAGUCUUAUUUCCCAUCUUUUUAAGGAGAGAUAUUUUUCUAAUUGUGAUUAUUUGAGUUCUCGAAUUGGUCACAAUCCCAGAUAUGUGCGACGUUGUAUUUUUCGUGUUAAGAUUGUUGUGAAUUAGGGUGCAAGGUGGCAUAAUGAGGGAAUUGCAUUAUCUACUAACAACCCUAUGUAUGCCUCCCUAGCCCAUUUUACGGUGAAAGAUAUUAUUCACCCAUUCAGAAAGGUAUGGAACACUCCUUUAAUUUAUAAUCUCUUGAUCCGAUUACAGCAUGACUCACUGUGAACACACCACUCCAACCUCUUGUCACUGAAGAUAAAUUGAUUAGGAAAGUGGAAAAGAAUGGUAAAUAUUCUGUUCAUAGUGCCUACUGCCUUUGAGUUACAGAAAUUGCAGAUAACUCUCAUUUACUCUGGAGCAAUGGAGUUCCAUGUGAAAGUUAAAGGUUCCUCCUAAGGUAAACAAUUUUUUAUGGCGAGUUUUUAGAGGAUACUUUUCCAACAAGAGCCCAUCUUAGUAGUCAAGGGGUGCGUUGUCCUAUUGAUUGUGUUCCUUGUGGGAAUAAUUUUGACGAUGGUAUCCAUGUCUUAUUGAAAUGUCUUGGUGCUAUCCAAGUAUGGCAUCAUGUUAAUCUUUGGGACAAAAUUAAUAGUACUCUCUGACAAGAUUAUAAUAUGAAUGCUAUGAUUUUUCAUUUUUUGCAUCAAUUUUCUCCAGCUCAGAGUGAGCUGUUUGCCACAAGUGAAUCUUUGCUCCAUUUAGCUAUACUUUAUUUAGUUCAUUUAAGAUUAUGUCUACAAAACAUGUGGCACAAAAAUAUCUACUGGCUGAAAUUGAAAAUAAUACAAAAAACAAGUAAAACAUUGUUCCAUUGUAUUCACGCUCCUCCCUCUUCAUCUACACACAACCGCUGCUCUUCUCCCUUUCUCUCAUAUCGUCAUCAACCACCAUCCAGCCGUCGUCCGUCGCCGACCCUUUGCAUCAAUCGAGUCAUAAGUUCGUGUCGAAUUUCCAGUAUUUGGUCUGUGUGAAGACAAUAACCCCCUUACUGCAUCCUCAUUCUCAUUCCAAUUUCCCAUUCAGAAUUUUAAGGUUUAUCAUCUGAUUCCAAACAUAUCAUUUGACUAAUUCUUAAACAACAACAACAAACAAACAAACAUUGCUAUUGCAGUUUAAUAUUCCAAUUUCAUAUACAUAAUAUCAAAAUUAACAACAUUAACUGACUAAAUAACUAAGAAUGAAUAUUUCUAGGGUUUCAAAAAAAAGAAACAAUAAACAAAAUUAAGAUGAGUAAUGAAUGACCUGAUGCAUUUGUAGGAGCGAAAGUGCAUUUAACGAUUGCAAUUUUAGAAUUGAACAACGGAAAGAACGGAGUCUCAGGAACAAUGAGAGAAGGUGUAGAGGAAGGAAGAUGUUUUUGCUUAUGUGGAGCGGUAGGGUGGGACGACGGUACCCUGGUGGCAACGCCGGCGCUGACGAAAGGGUGAUGGUGGGGCGGCGUUUUUAGGAGAUGAAGGAGUGUGUUGUAUCAUAGGAGGAAGAGCAGAGGCGUGUGUUUAUUUUCCAAUAAACAAGUAUUUUUUUCGAAGCCUUUUAAUCUCAGCCAUUGGUUUUUUAUUUUUCACAUGUCAAACAUCCAUGAAGUGAAUUGGUAUAAAUGGAGGCUCUCUAAAGGAAGCAAAGAUGCACUCGUUAGCCACGAGAAUGUGGAGCUUGUGAAAACGGCGGAGUCUCAAACUAUGGUAGCAACAAAAUGAAACAAAUAUGCAGGUUGUUGAACGUGCUACACAUCUUCUUGAUGAAUGGAGAGCAGCCAAAAAUAUUAGGUCCCGAAUUGCGGCAAAUUCUAGUAAUGAUAAAAACGGGCAUGUGGAGCUUGUGAUAAACAAAUUCUAGUAAUGAUAAACAAAAUGUUAGGUCCGUGAAUUGUAACAUUGAUGCCUCUUUUUUCUAGUCAACGAAUAUGGUUUGUAUAUGCAUAUGUUUGCGAGAUUUUGCAUGUAAUUUGUGAUUGCAAAAAUUGAUUGCUUCUCUCCCCUUUGUCAAGUUGAUAUAGGAGAGGCUUUUGGGAUGUCUACGACUUUAAAUUGGAUAUCAAACUUUCAAUAUGAUAAUGUUGGUUUUGCUUUAGAUUCUAAGAAUGUCGUUGAUCAGUUUAGGUCAGUAAUAGAAGAUAAUAGUGAAUUUGGUUGUAUUAUAUCUGACUGUAAAAACUUGUUCCAUCAUAGGUAUCAGAACUCUCAUGUCGAGUUCAAUAGAAGACAAGCUAAUGAGGUCGUUCACGAGUUAGCUCAGGUAGCCCUAGGUCAUGUUAGCUCCCACAUUUACAAUAACGCAUCGUCAUGUAUUUCGUACAUUAUAGCUAAUGAACAACACUGUAUUUUCUUUCUUAAAAAAAAUUAUUUGGUGCAAAUCAAUAGUACAAAUCAACGAUGUUAGUAUCAAUGAUUUAUUUUUUGUUGAAGAAGUUAGUAUCAAUGAUUUUCAGGUAUAUUUAGAACAAUACAAAAAGUUCUUAAAAAAUGAUUUUUUUUUUUUUAAGAAGUUAUUAUCAAUGAUUUUCAGGUAUAUUUAGAGCAGUACAAAAAAGUCUUAAGAAAAUAUUCUUUUUUCACAUGAAAUGAAUUAAAUAUAAAUAUUUGAAACACAAAAUAGUGUUUUCUGGAUGAGUUUUGGUUUAUCCAUAAAAAAAGGUUUGAGAUUCUCCCAUAUCAUUUGAAGAUUCUUUGUUUUUAGAGCAUACUAACAAAUGACUAUAUAAAUUAGCUUAUAAUUGAUAAAAACAAAAUACAAAUUAGCUUAUGGGACACCUAAAAUCGGAAUUUUUCUAUUAUAAAAAGGGCAGGCCGGUCUCACCAACUAGUGUAUUGUAGCAGUUUUAUCAUAUUUUUACAUAAAAACCGUUUUCAAAAUUUGAGCUUGUGACCUUUCAAUCAUGUUACGUGGCAUUUGAAAAAUAUCUUAAUCAACAUUUUUUCAUAAAUAAUUCAAAAAAAACUAUUUAUUUUUAAAAUUCUUUAUCACAUCCAUCAACAAACUUUGAAUUAAAAAAAAAAAAUCAUCAAUAAACUCAUGAAAAAAACGAAAAAAUUCUACAAAAAAUAAAUAAAUAAAGUCGUUUUUUUAUGACCUAUUAGGGGGUAUUCCAAAAAAAUAAAAUUACAGCGGGUAAAUCAAAAAAAAUAUUUUACAGGGAGGAAAACAAAAAAUGAUCUAUAUUACAGGUAAAGCCAGUGGCAGAUCUUAGUAGAGACCCUUGGGUGCCAUGGCAUCCCCUGGGUUUUCAAUAUAUACCAUAUUAGACAUAUUAUUUUAGUAAGUUUUGAAUUGUCGCAGCAGUAAGCUAGUCUUAUAGUCCCACCAACGGUCGCGAGUGAGUUCGACACUCACGCCAUCUUUUUUGACAUUUUUCUCUCGUAUUUACAUUUUUUAUUCAAAAAAAACCACUAGCAGGGAUUCAAACCUGCAUCCCACUUGGUGCUUUCAAACAAUUUAAACCAUUACAGCAAGUGAUUAUUUUUAUCUACUUUUUGAAACUGGUUUACAUAUAUUUCAUGGUGGUUUGGCACCCCCAAUAAAUUUACUCAAGAUCCGCCACUGGGUAAAGCACCAUUAACCCCAAAAUAAACGAAAAUCUACAUUAACCAAAUUACAACACCACAUCAAAUCUACAUUUGACAAACUCAAAAAAUUCUAGAUAUGAGAUUAAUACAAUAAAAACCUAGAAUCCAAUUCAAGAACUGUUAAAUUUGGUAACAACCUUGUACAUUCCAAAACAACAUUCAAUGAGAAACUCGUCAGUAUCAGGGGUAAAUUCGUCGGUGUCAGGUAUUAUAAAUCUCCCUUUUUGAUUCUGCCCUAUGAAGCAUGCAAAUAUGGCCGUUGAAUCACACCUGAUAUGUUCUGAUACAUUGUCGAUACAUAUUUAAAGAGUGUCCAAAUUUUUUAAUUUAAACUAAAAAAUAAAAAUUUGGAUUCGUCACCGACACGUUGUCGUCAACACGUUUCUAAUAUGCCUUUGAUACAUCUCAUGAUUGUUCAAUUUUCCCCUCCUUAAUUAGAUGAAUGUAAAUUAUAAUAUAUACCCAGUUAAUUUAUUAGAAUUUUUUAAGUUUUCUUUCUUUUUCCCAUAAUUCUCUUACGGUUGCAAAUUGAAAUCACAGCUAACUAAGAGUGCAUAUAAUAUGUCAUACUUACCAAUUGUGAACAAAUCACUAUAGAGGAUAGAGUUCCGAGCUUUAUUUUAAUUUUUAUGUGUAUGUUAAAUGCAUCGUAUUCUAUAUUUUUCAAUGAUUGAUGUCCGUAUUUAUACGUGUGGUAUCUGAUACUCGUAUUAUGUCCAUGAAUAAUAGAUUCAACCAAACAACUAACAACCAUACCUUUAAAAUUCUAUCUUGGGGCACAUGAGAGUGCACCCAAAGCCAUGAUCUAGGCGCAUAAACCAUGCUUUAGGCGCAUGGUGCUGCCUCAUGGGCACAGGUUCUCCGAUUUCCCGUCUUUUUAGGUCUUCGUCUUCAAAUAACUUGCCUCGGAACUUAGGAACAUAAUUCCUCCCACUGUAAAGUCUCAUGAGGUCUCUUGAAUCUUCAUUUUUGGUCUUCCCAAAGUCUUCACAAAUCUUCAGAUGGUCUUGAUUUGUCGAUUUGCAUGAUUUCUUCGUGAAGUACUUCAAAAAACCCCUAAAAUUGUUAUGUUUCGGGAAAACUAGAAUUACAUACUAAAAUAUAGAAAACAUUACAAAAGUCCCGAAAUCAUAUGCAAUCGUUCUAAUACUCCACCUUUUUUGCUGCUAAAAUCUACUAAAAAUGACUGAAAAACAUGCUAAAAAUAACGUAAGAUGACCUGUCAUCAAAAUCAAAACUAACUAAUAGUGCAUAUAAUAUGCCACACUUACAAAUUAUGAACAAACCACUAUAAAGGAUAGAGUUAUGAGUUAUGAGUUUAGUUGGAAGUUCGCCACUUCUAUUAAGCUUGUGUUGUGAUUUCAGUUUAAAAUUUGUAACUAACGUUUACUACUUUAUUUUAAUUUUUAUAUGUAUAUAUUAAAUGUAUUGAAUCCUAUAUUUUCAAUGACUGACGUAUCGAUACGUGUUGUACCUGAUACUCGUAUUGUGUCUGUGAUUAAUAGAUUAGCCAAACGACCAACAACCACAACCUUAAAAUUCUCUCUCCCACCCAUUUUUAGAAACGACCCACAACCAUAGUAUUUUUCUUUGACCUUUUGGAAGCUAGUUUACUAAGUAAUGAAUAAGAUGAGCACCAUACUCCUCAGUUAUUUGUGACACAAGCAAUUGAAGCUUAAUAUAGUUUUAGACUUGGAAGUUUUAUUAUAACUACUGAUGACAUAUCAUCUUUCAAUUUUGAACAAUCCACUAUAAAGGAUAGAGUUCUAAGUUUAGUUGAAAAUUCGCCACUUCUAUUGAGUUUGUGUUGUGAUUUUAGUUUAAAAUUUGUAAUUAAUGUUUACAACUUUGUUUUAGUUUUUACAUGUGUAUGUUAAAUGUAUCGUAUCCUAUAUUUUUCAAUGACUGACAUAUCAAUAUGUGUUGUAUCUGCUACUCGUAUCGUGCCCCGUGAUUAAUAGAUUCAGCCAAACGACCAACAAUCACUGCCUUCAAAUUCUCUCUUCCACCCAUUUUCAGAAACAACCCACGACCAUGGUUUUUGUCUUUGACCUUUUGGAAGCUAGUUUACUAAGUAAUGAAUGAGAUGAGCACCAUACAUAGUCCUCAGUUACUUAUGACACAAGCAAUUGAAGCUUAAUACAGUUUUAGACUUAGAAGUUCUGUUAUAACUACUGAUGACAGACCAUCUUACGUUAUUCUUAGCAUAUUUUUCAGUAAUUUUUAUUUAGUUUUGAUCCGAAAUAGAGGAGUUUUAGAGCUAUUACCUAUGGUUUUGGGGAUAUUUUGUAAUGUUUUCAUUUAUAAUCAUGUAAUUCUAAUUUCUCAAAAACAUAACAAUUCUAAAGUAUUUUGAUGUAAUUCAAAAAGAAAUCAUACAAAUAUAUUUGCUAACAAAAACAAAAGGUGAAUAUUGUUAUAAGAUCAAAUUGAUCUAAAAUUUAAAUUAUUUAAGUUUAUAUAGACAAAUAGUAACCUAACAUACUUAAUCUACUCUAAAAGAAACAUAACAUACUUAUUCUACUAGCUAGUACUACUAUAUUACUCUCUUAGUUUACUAUGUAUACUAUUCAUACAAGACAUUUUAUCAUAUAUGUUUCUAUUAAUAUAAAGAUAAAUAGUAAGAUAAAGAUGUUAGGGUUAAUAGUGUUUUUCACCCCUGUAAUAUAUGUCAUUUUUUGUUUUCGUCCUUAUAAAAUUUUUGGUUUGAUUUGCACCCUCGUAAAAAUUUUAUUUUUCGAAAAACACCCCUAAUAGGCCAUUUUCAGAUUUUUUUUUUUCAAGAAAUUUUGGUUUUUGAAUGGCCUAUUAAGGUUGUUUUUCGGAAAAUAAAAAUUUUACGAGGGUGAAAUCAAACUGAAAAUUUGAUAGGGGCGAAAAAUGAAAAUGACAUAUAUUACAGGGGUGAAAAACACUAUUAACCCAAGAUGUUAUUAGAUUUUUCUUAACAAAAUACUUUUAAAAUAUCUACUCUUAAUUAUCUUUUGUUAAUAUUCCUCUAAUAAAAUAAAUUUUUUUGUAAUUGUCAAAAAUGUGCAUCGCAUGUAAGAAAGUUACACAAACAAACCACUUUUUCAAUAGUCAUAAACAUUUAACCAAAAUCAAUCAUCUUGAUAGGGGGUAGUAUAUGGGACACCACUUGUGUACCAUUAAGGUAUCAAUGUUAUAUAACAUUGACCAAUAAGAGUGUGCCACAUACCAAUGUUACUUUAUAAAUGUUUUAUUUGAUAUAUGUUUUUUAAAGUGUGUGCCACAUGUCACACCUUAAUUGGCUAAUGUUAUAUAACAUAAUGGUACACAAGUGCUAUCCGUAGUAUAUGGCCCUGGCGAAAAGGGGGCCGUCGUAAAAUUCUUAUAAGUUAAUACUCUCUUUUUCGGGGAAAUAUCUUAAUAGCCAAUACUUUUUUUCACAAACACAUGCCAAAAAAACAAUUUCACAAACAAACACGUACAUCACGAGUUUCAAGAUAAUAAGAGAUCAACUUGGAGUUCUAUAUAGUCUUCAACUUCAACAUUGUUACGUACAACCAAACCAUUCAUUGUAGACAUGUCUUUUGCAGUAACAACAACAAUAUUUGCUUUCCUUCUCUUCACUUUCACAUACUUUCUAUUCAAACUAUUCUUGCAUUCAAAACAAAAAACCAUUAUCCAUAAAAAACCACCAUGUCCACCAACACUACCAAUAAUAGGAAAUCUUCACAUAUUAGGCAAACUUCCACAUAGAACACUUCAAUCACUCUCCAAAAAAUAUGGUCCAAUUAUGUCUUUACAACUUGGACAAGUUCCAACAAUUGUCAUUUCAUCUUCAAAAGCAGCAGAAUCAUUCCUCAAAACCCAUGACAUCGUUUUCGCAAACCGACCGAAACUUAUAGGAGCAGAGAUCAUAUCUUAUGGUUGCAAAGGGUUGGCGUUUUCUAAGUACGACCCUUAUUGGCGUAGUGUAAAGAAACUCUGCACUUUGAAACUUCUUAGUGCUUCAAAAGUUGAGAAGUCGGGUCCUAUUAGAACAGAGGAGUUGGGUAUUUUGGUUAACACUUUGAAAAAAGCUUCUUUGGUAGGUGAGGUUGUGAAUGUCAGUGAGAUUGUAGAGAAUGUUAUUGAAGAUAUUGUGUAUAAGAUGAUAUUGGGUAGAGGUAAGUAUGAGCAAUUUGAUUUGAAGAAGUUGGUUCAAGAAGGAUUGGCUUUGAUUGGAGCUUUUAAUCUGGCUGAUUAUGUUCCUUGGCUAGGAAUUUUUGACCUUCAGGUAAGUUUGUCAAAUUAUAUAUAGCUUUUUUAAGCUUAAAUAUGAAAAUGGUCCCUCCAAAUAUUUGGCGUUUGUUUUAGUCCAUAUAAAAAUAUUUUUUUGAUUUUAAUCCCUGCAAAUAUAAAAUAUUUGGUUUUGGUUCUUGGUAUUUUGUUUUAAUCCUUGUAAAAUCAUUUCAUAUUGAAAUUGGUCCCUAUAAUAUUCAUUUUAGUCCUCAUUUUAAGGGACUAAAAUCAAAUAUUCUACAUACUACAAGGACCAAUUCCAAUAUGAAUCAAUUUUACAAGGACUAAAACAAAAUAUCAAAGACCAAAAUCAAAUUUUUUAUAUUUGUAGGGACUAAAAUAAAAAAAAAAUUUACAGGGACUAUAACCAAUCAUAUUUAAGGCCUCUUUUUAAUACAUGGUCAGAUUAAAAAAAUAUAAUUAGAUUUGUAUGAGAAAACGAAAUUAUGAGUCAUUUUAUAAAAUUACCUUUUAUUAAUGAAUGAUAUAGAAAAAAUAAAUUAAAAAAUUUAAAAAAGAUAAAGUAAUAAAUAUUUAAGAAUAUGGAAUAAUUAAUAUGCUAUUGGUUAACGACUAAUAAUUUGAAACAAUUUCCCCUAAAAAAAUUUAUAAUUUAGGCUCUUUUUGUCAAGGUCAAGAACAUAAUUUAUAAAUAAUUUAAAACAAAUUAUGCUCUUUUUGUCAAUUUUCUUAAAUUGUCAUGUUUGAUAACAAUCUUUUUACCAUAAAUUUAUAGCUUAUUUUACUAGCUUAUAACUUAUCUUUCAUAUAGCUUAUAGCGUUUGAAUUUAUAGUGUAUAAUUUAUCAUCUUUUAUUUCAUUGGAUUGAUUAUUAUUUUUUUAUUUUUUAAGGAAACCAUUGGAUUGAAUUAUUUCAGCGACUUAUGUUCCAAUUUGAUUAUUUCUUUUGGCAAUCUUCUAAUUCUAACGAUAACAAACAUAUACUUUUUUCCACUAUAUUUUACUUUGGCUUGUGUAUGUAUUAUAUUAAGAAUUUAAUUCUGUUUUUUUUUUUUUUUUUUUUUUUUUAUCCCUAAUGAUUUUAUUAAAUUUUCUUUUUAAUUUCUGCAAAUCGGAUAUUAUUUUGUUUGUGGGAUAAAAAUAUUAAAUAUUGAUAACAUUUUUAUAAAGAAUUAACAACAUCCUUUGAAGUCAUUUUACAUUUAUCAGCUAGUUAAACCGCGCUACUUUUAUCAAAUACUUCAAUCAGCUUAUAAGUUAUCAGUCAUCAGAUAUCAGCUAUUAGCUAUCAGACAUCAACCAUAAACUAUAAAUUAUAAGUUAACUUUUCAGCUAUUUACUAUUUUUAUCAAACAAAACCUAAAAAAGAGGGAGUAUUAUGUAUAAGAAAUAAAAGAUUAAUCAUUGACUUUAGUUUUAUUUUAAGUCUCAUAAACAAAUUUCCUCAAAAAAAAAAGUCUCAUAAAUAAAUAUCGUGAUUGUAUAUAAUUUUGGUCACUCAAACGUGGUAUUGCACUGUAUUUAUCCUUUACACUGUGUUUGGUUGAGGUGAAAUAGGAAAGAGAAAGAGCAGGCAGAGAAAAAGGUGAGAAGUUCAAAACUUCUCCUGUUUGGUUAGAAAAAGAAAGAGAGAUAAAAACAUGUGGAACCCACAUCUCCUUUUUUUUUUUUGGUAGAUAACCCACCUCUCCUUUUAGUCUCUCCAAAGUAGUGAAGAAACAAAGAAGAAACCCACUUUUUAUUUUUUAUUCCACUAAUGCCCUUGUGAAAUUGUUGCAAGUUUGCAACACGGCACGGACAAAACGGAAGCAUUGGUGUGAUUAGUGAUAAAUUGAUAAUGUGUCCCUUGCCUAAUAUACAGUGAGUAAGCAAACUUUUUAAAUGUACUUAAUAAUUGAUUGAUUGAAUUACAUAAAAACUAUAAUCUGUUUAACUUAAUUCAGUUAAACUAAUUAGUUUAAUUUACCACAAAAAAAAAAAAUUUAAUUGAUAUAAAGUUUAAAUAAAUAAUUUAAUUAAUUAGAAUAAAUUUGAAUAAAAGAUUAAAUAAUUUAAUUUUGACAAAGAUUAAAUAAUUUAAUAGAUUUUUUUAUUGUAGGGGUAUCUUUGUACUUUUAUAAAUAAUCAACACUUCUCUCUCUUCUAUCUCUCUUUUCUCCCUUUUAUGCCAAACAACACAUCAAAUCUACUUCAUUUCUCACAUAUCUCUCUCUCUCUCUCUCUUCACAACUUCUCUUCCAAACUAAACAAACCCUUUAGUGUUUUUCUUCUAGUUCAAUAAAUAAAAGGCUUAAACGCACUUUUAACCCUCUAAGUUUGCAAAAGUUGUAAUUUUGGCACCCUAUUAAAAAAAUGGCAAAAGUGACCCCCCAUGUUUAUCCCAUUUUGCAAAACCUCAAUUUUGACUUAGUCAAAUUUAUGUGUCACGCCACAUCAGUUAAAAAAUCGCUACGUGUCUACUUUUUGAAUUUAAAAUAAAUGUAAAUACCACAAGUGUAUAUGUAGAAUUAAAAUAAUAAAAAAGAAUAAAAAAAUAAAAGGAAAGAAUUAAGGAGAGAAGCGCUUGGUUUUCUUCUCUUCUUCCUCUGUAACAUCAAACUCGGGUAAGAAAGGAAAAUUAAACCCAGAAAGCAACGUGAGUCUUCAUAUCUUCAUCUCCAUACUUCAUAGCAAUCUUCAUAUCUUCUAAUCCAACCCAGAAAGAAAGAAAAAAAAAAACGAAUCCUUCAUUUAUUAAUUGGAAAACUAAACAUGCAUACACUUUAACUCUCAUUUCUUUAGGACAGUAUCAAUAGUGAUGAUAAAAUAAAACCGUAGGUCUGUUGAAAAAUAGUGUAUUAGGUCAAAAUCACCCAAUUUCAUCUCCAACUAUACCUCCAGCACCAAUUUAUUAUCCAAGUGAAGAUGAAUUCAAAGAUCCAUUAGAAUUUAUUCACAAAAUCAGACACGAAGCCGUACCGUAUGGAAAUUGAUUUGGAGUUUUCAAAUUUUGAUUUUGAGAGAAAAAAUAGCCCAUUUUUUUUUAAUUUCCAAAAUUUUAAUUCACGUGCUCUUUUCUUCAAAAAACAUCACGUGCUCUUAUGUUUUUUUUUUGCUUUUUGAUUUAUAUUUAAUUUCAUUAAUUUAUAUCUGGCUUUUUUAUUUAAUUUUUAAUUGGAAAAAACACAUGUGGUGUGCCAUGUAGGCUUGAUCAAAUCAAAAUUAACGUUUUGCAAAAAGAGAUAAACAUGGGGUCACUUUUACCAUUUUUUUUAAUGGGGGUCAAAAUUACAACUUUUGCAAACUUAGGGAGUAAAUAGUACGUUUAAGCCUAAAUAAAAUGAUUACCUAAUUUUCAAACUCAACUGCCCUUCACUUGUAGUUAAGGUAUUCUGAUGAUUUUAGUUACAAAUACCUUAAAUACCAAGUGAUGGUUUGAAAUUGGGGGCUAAAUUUCACAAUCUCAAUAUUUGAGGUACUACGUAGGAGAAAUUUUGAAAAAAAUCAGACGACCCCUUCUUUGCACAAUGGAAAAAUAUUAAGGUCAUGAUAAUUUAUUUUUGAUAAUUUUUUGGUGAUGUAAUUUUCAUUUUGUGGUGUUUAAUCUUUAAUAAUGAAAGGUUGCGUUAACUUUUAAGUGGUUGAAGGUGAAGUUUCCUUUUCUUCCCUUCAAUUAUCAUGGUUGGUGGCUUAAUCCGUUUACUGUUUUAGGCAUUGGCUAUUUUCUGUUCUUUUUGGCUUGUUUUCUGGUGUUGGCUCUUGUCUUGUAUAUAUGUUUUGUUCUUUUGUUGUAACUUGCUGGGUUUUUAUUCAUUUGUACAUCUUGUGCUAGGAAGACCCUCGUGGUGUUAAUAUAUUUCAUUAAUUUUAGUUUCUUCAAAAAAAUAAUGAGAGGUUGCCAUAAUUUAGAAACCAAAUUGAAUCAAGUUUUAAAUAUUUUAAAUUUCCUUAAAUAUAUUGUUAUCAAUUUUUCAAGCCCAGUUUAGUUAGUAAGAUGCUUCAACUAUAUUCAUAGGGCUUCGAGUUCUAGUUAUGAAGGGGGAAAAUGGAGAACAUUGAUACUCUUUUAAAAAAACUUGCUCUAAUGAUUUUGUUAAGUACAAUGAAAAUAUUUAUUUAGUAAUUGAUAUUUUAUGUUUAACUCAUUGUUAGGGAUUAACAAAAUCUUGCAAGAAAGUUAGUAAAGCAAUUGAUGAGCAGCUAGAGGUGAUAUUAACAGAACAUGAACAAGCUGCUAAUGUAAACAAAACUCAUCAUAAAGAUUUUGUAGACAUACUUCUUUCAAUUAUGCACCAAACCAUUGAUGUCGAGGGUGAACAAAAUCUCGUCAUUGAUCGAACUAACAUCAAGGCUAUUUUGCUCGACAUGAUAGUGGCAGCAAUCGAUACAUCUGCUACCUCGAUUGAAUGGGCUUUAUCUGAACUUUUAAGACAUCCAAGAGUGAUGAAAAAGCUUCAAGAUGAGAUACAAAAUGAAGUAGGAAAUAAAAGAAAGAUUGAGGAGAAAGAUAUGAAGAAGUUGAAUUAUUUAGAUAUGGUGGUUGAUGAGACCUUAAGACUUUACCCUGUUGCACCAUUACUAGUCCCUCGUGAGUCUAGAGAGAGCACAAUAAUUGAUGGUUAUUUUAUAAAGGAAAAGACACGACUUAUAGUAAAUGCAUGGGCAAUAGGGAGAGAUCCUAAUGUUUGGUCAGAAAAUGCCGAAGAAUUUUAUCCAGAGAGAUUUAUUGAGAAAAACUGAAUUAUCUCGGACAAGAGUUUGAAUCUAUACCAUUUGGUUCUAGUCGUAGGCGUUGUCCUGGAAUUCAAUUGGGUUUAAUUACGAUUAAGUUGGUUAUAGCUCAAUUUGUGCAUUGCUUUAAUUGGGAACUUCCACAUAAUAUUAGUUCUUCUAGUUUGAAUAUGGAGGAAAAAUUUGGACUCACUAUACCAAGAACUCAACAUUUGCAUGCAAUACCAAGUUAUCGUUUGGAUGAUGCUAAACAUGAAUAGUUCUAAGUACAAUACUAUGUUGUGUUCAACAAGUUAAUUGCUAGUAAAAAUGCCAAGUAUGGUAGCUUAGUCCACUAAAGCUCUUGCAAACGGAAAGUUCGGAAAGGGGGUCUAACCAAUUAGUGUAUUAUAACGACCUUGGUACUUUCCAAAACAACAUUUAAUGAAGAAUCGGUUCCAGAAUCAGACAUGUGAGUUCAAUUGCACGAGAGGGGUGAAUUCGCCAAUGCCGGAAUUAGAAAUCUCCCUAAUUGAUUCAGCCCUAUGAAGCAUUCAAAAUUACCGUUAAAUCUCACCUGAUAUGCUCUCGUCCAUACGUAUCGAAGAAGUAUCCAAAUUUUUUAAUUAAAAAUAAAAAAUAAUUUUUUUUAACACGUCACAUAUACGUUGCGAUACGCUGCCAACACGUCUCUGAUACAUCUCAUGAUUGUUCAGUUUUUAGUUUUCCCCUAAUUACAUUCUAUCUUUACUAUGAUUAUGAUUGAUGCAUGUCAAUUAUAAUGUGGCAAAUUCUAUGGUACAUCCAAAAAUAUGAGUGUAUCGUUACAUCAAAUCGUUAAAUCAAUAAUUAAAUGAGUUGUUUUUUGAUUUUUUUAUUAUCAUUGAUAAUUAUAAUAAUUAAAUCUUAUUGAACAAAAACUUCGACGAAAUAAAAAAAAAUUGAAUUUUUAUUACUCAUAAUAAAGAAUAUUGAUGAUUUUUUAUGAGAAAAUGUUAAAAAUUUAAUAUGAUUCUUAUAAACAAUGAAAUGAUGUUUUUUCUUACGAAAUGAUGUUUUCUAAAAUAUAAAUAUGGACAAAUAUUUUUUUUAUUUCAUAAAAUGAUCGUUAAUUUAUAAAUUUAUAGAGCAAGAGUACCGGUAAACCUUAAUUUGUGAUGUGUACCGUAGAAGUUCCCUUAUAAUGUACCCAUUUAAUUUAUUAGAAUUUUCUAAGUUUUCUUUCUUUUUUCCAUAAUUAUUUUACGGUUGCAAAUUGAAAUCACAGCUAACUAAGAGUGCAUGUAAUAUGCCAAACUUACCAAUUCUAAACAAACAACUAUAGAGGAUAGAGUUCUGAGUUUAGUUUGAAAUUCAUCGCUUCGAUUGAGUUUGUGUUGUGAAUUUAGUUUAAAUUUUUUAACUAAUAUUUAUAACUUUAUUUUAAUUUUUAUAUUUGUAUGUUAAUUAAAUAUAUCAUAUCUUAUAUUUUUCAAUGACUGAAGUAUCGAUUUGUGUCGUAUCGGAUGCUCAUAUUGUGUCCAUGAUUAAUAGAUUCAACCAAACGACCAAUAACCAUACCCUUCAAAUUCUCUCUCCUACCGAGUUUUAAUUGAUGUUUACAACUUUAUUUUAAUUUUUAUAUGUGUAUGUUAAUUUUAUCGUAUCCUAUAUUUUUAAAUGACUGACAUAUCGAUACCCUUAAAAUUUUCUCUCCCACCCAUUUUUAGAAACAACCCACAACCAUGGUUUAUUGUCUUUAUCCUUUUGGAAGAAGUAUUUGUUAAAGCAUAUCACAAAAGAAAUGGAAGCAAGUUUUCUAAGUAAAGAUGAAGAUGUGCACCAUAGUCCUCCAUUACUUGCGACAAAAGCAAUUGAAGCUUAAGACAGUUUUAGACUUAGAAAUCAUGUUAUGACUACUUUGCUCAUGUUUAGGAAAGUUAGUUAUGAUACAGUGAGGUGAAGAUCACAGUAGUUUAUGCUGAUCUAUCACUGAAAUACCAUAAGUACAUGUAAUUGCUUCUAUUACAAGUUAAUGUGAAAUAAUGGUUCAUUGAACCAAUUCUUGAUUCUUUUAUUUGUUUUUAUCUCAUUUUUUUAUCAAUCUUUUGUUAUCUCAACAUUAUUUGUCUCGUGUGUUUGUAAGAGAACCCAUGGUGGCUGGUUUAUUACACGCUUGGAGGAGAAGGAGGUAGAAGGGGCAAUCCGCGCGCGUGUUUUUUUAGGGUUCUAGGUAGAAGUUGAUUUUUAAUUGAAGAAGCUUGAUAAAAUUGGUGUUUUAGAGUUUCCUAAGAAGAGGAGUGUAGCAGAAGUAACAAAAUUGAAAAGGGAGGAAGAUUAAAUCACCAAUGUAGCAUAUUUGUGUUUGUUGUUUUUUUUUUCUUUUUGCAUAAACAUGGCAAACAAAGACGAAGAAGAAAAAAAUACACAGGACAGAAGAAGAUUUUGGAAAUUGUUUUUAUUAAUGUUGUGAUGAAGAUUUAUGUAUGAAGAUUAAAAGAAAAGCAACAGUGAUCUGGGUUUCUCUUUAAACAUUCUAGAAAAAGGGGUUUUAAAUAAUUUUAUGUUUUUAAAAUUAAUGACUUUUUUUCUGCAGGAUUAAAAUUAAUGACUUGGUAACCAAUAUUCAUGUGGAAGUUUUUUUUUUUUUAAAGAAAUAUAAAUACACACUCAACUACGUAAUCCAUUGUACACAAUCAAAAAAUCUUAAAAUGGAAGAGGAAUCUCAAACUUUUCUUUUUUAAACCAAAAUUCGCUCGUGUAAACAUUAUUUGACCCUAAAAAUAAUGAAUAUUUAGACUUAAAUAUGCAAUUUAACCUUAGUUUUUUUUUUCGUCAUUCGAGUUUUUUUUUAUAAGCAAGAGAGAGGACAGGCAUCAAGAGACAUCAUCGACAUCCCAACUAGGUUGGCAUCUCAAGAGACCUCCAUCGUAUGCCGCCAAACUCAAAAGAUUUUAUUAAAAAAGGGGGAAAAAUAAUUACAAAAGGAGGGUGGACAAGACCAAAACUCUCAAAAUGAACGGAAAAGAAAAGCAACAGUGGAAACAACAAAACAGUCCAAAGAACAGAUCAAAGAAAUCUGUAAUUAGGAAAUCCACAAUAAAAAUUAGAAUUUGUGACAUAUAUAAAUUUUUAAAGCAAUCCAAGUAUCAAAGUUAUUGAUACCUCUAACAUUCCAAUGUGUGCCAAAUAUUGUAUUCAAAAAUUGUGAUCAACCAAUACUUUUUCAACAAGGAAUAGAUAAAUGGAGCACUCCUUGGUGGUAUGGUGACAUAUGUUGUAGCUUCUCUGUCCACAGAAAAACGUGUACACCAACUUGGAGUUCUUGAUAUCUUCAACCUCGUUACUUCAGCCAAACCAAAUCAUUCAUUGUGGUCAUGUCUUUUGCAGCAACAACUAUGCUCUAUUUCCUUCUCUUCACUUUCAUAUACCUUUUAUUCAAACUCUUCUUACAUCCAAAACAAAAUACCAUUAACCAUAAAAAGCCACCAGGUCCACCAACACUACCAAUAAUAGGAAACCUUCACAUGUUAGGUAAACUUCCACAUAGAACACUUCAAUCACUCUCCAAAAGAUAUGGUCCAAUCAUGUCCUUACAACUUGGUCAAGUUCCAACAAUUGUUAUUUCAUCUUCAAAAGGAGCAGAAUCAUUCCUCAAAACCCAUGACAUCGUUUUCGCAAGCCGACCGAAGAUUCAAGGAUCAGAGCUCAUGUCCUAUGGUUCUAAAGGGUUGCCUUUUUCUGAGUAUGGUCCUUAUUGGCGCAGUAUGAGGAAAUUUUGCACUUUGAAACUUCUUAGUGCUUCAAAAGUUGAGAAGUCGGGUCCUAUUAGAAAAGAGGAGUUGGGUGUUUUGGUUAACACUUUGAAGAAAGCUUCUUUGGUAGGUGAGGUUGUGAAUGUUAGUGAGAUUGUCGAGAAUCUUAUUGAGGAUAUUGUGUAUAAGAUGAUAUUGGGUAGAGGUAAGUAUGAGCAAUUUGACUUGAAGAAGAUGAUUAAAGAUGGAUUAACUUUGAUGGGAGCUUUUAAUCUGGCUGAUUAUGUUCCUUGGCUAGGCAUUUUUGACCUUCAGGUACAUUUGUACUAUUUAUUACUACUAUCUCGUUAAAUAUAAGAUCAUUUUGUGUUUUUUCUGUCGCUUUUUAUAAGAACCCUUUCAAAUUUUAAUGUAGAUUAAUUAUUUCUUUAUCAAUAUAUCCUUAUUUAUGUUGCAUAUUUUUAUACAAUAUAUAAUAAAUAUUCUACGAAAACAUCAGCUAAUUUCUUUCAUAAAGGAUAAAUAUGUAAAACAAUAUAAAUUGUAAACAAAAUUAAUUCAACAAUUAAUUUUCUUAAUUCCUGUGUUUUUCACGAAAUGGUUCUAUAAUUAAGGACGGAGGUAGUAUUUAUAAGAAAGAAAGAUAUUGAAUAUUAACAUACAUUUAUUUUAGUCUGAUGAUUUUGGCUUGGGAUCCGGGAGUAUGCACCUCCUCGAGGUCUCAGGUUCGACUCUCUCUGAUGCCAAUUUAAGUGGGUUAAUUUAACUUCUUCAAAAAAACAUAUGUUUAUUUUUAACACACUUAGAUUGGCCUGAUGGUAUUGGCUUGAGAUCCGGAAGUGUGCUGUUUCAUAAAUAGAGUGUUCUUCAAAACAAAACAAAAAACUCAUAAAUAGAGUGAUUGAGUGAUUUUGGUCACUCAAUAUUUAAUAGUUCGGUAUUGGUCCUUUAGUGUUUUUCCCUCUAUGGCUUUAAAAGGGUUACCUGAUUUUAUCUCAAUUGCCCUUCACUUUUAUAUAUGAAAUUGGAAACUGGGUCAAAUUUCACAAUAUCAAAAUAUUUUAGGUACUAGAAGUAAGAGAAAUUUGAAAACAAGUUAGAUAAUCCCUUUACUAUACACAAGGGAAAAUUGAAUUAACUCUACAAAAAAAAUGAGUUAACUCUUAAAUAUUUUCCAUUCGGUUAAAUAUUUCAGUUAUCCAUUUCAUCCUCAAUUUACUUAUGUUUUUACGGUUUUGUUAAUAACAACAAUCAAGUCUUAUCCGACUGAGUAAGAUCAACUAUAUAGAUCAAAUUACCCCAUAAUAGGUUAUCAUAAACGUGGGUUUGUUAAGUUCAAUGAAAAUAUUCAUGUAGUAACUGAUAUUAUUAGUUAACUUUUUGAUAGGGAUUAACACAAGCUUGCAAAAAAACCAGUAAAGCUCUUGAUGAAGUUUUGGAGAUGAUAAUAACAGAGCAUGAACAAACUACUAAUACAGACGAUCCUAAAGAUUUUGUAGACACAGUUCUUUCAAUUAUGCACCAAACCAUUGAUGUUGAGGGUGGACAAGAUCUCGUCAUUGAUCGAACGAUCAUCAAGGCUAUUUUGCUCGACAUGAUAGGGGCAUCAAUUGAUACAUCUUCAAACGUGAUAGAGUGGGCUUUAUCUGAACUUUUAAGGCAUCCAAGAGUGAUGAAAAUUCUUCAAGAUGAAAUACAAAAUGAAGUAGGAAAUAAGAGAAUGGUUGAAGAAAAGGAUUUGAAGAAUUUUAAUUACCUAGAUAUGGUGGUUGAUGAAACCUUAAGACUUUAUCCUGUUGCACCUUUAUUAAUCCCUCGUGAAUGUAGAGAGAACAUAACAAUUGAUGAUUAUUCUAUAAAAGAAAAGACACGAGUUAUAGUAAAUGCAUGGGCAAUUGGGAGAGAUCCUGAUGUUUGGUCAGAAAAUGCUGAAGAAUUUUACCCAGAGAGAUUUAUUGAGAAAAAAAUGAAUUAUCUCGGACAAGAGUUUGAAUCUAUACCAUUUGGUUCUGGUCGUAGACGUUGUCCUGGAAUUCAAUUGGGUAUGAUUACGGUUAAGUUGGUUAUAGCUCAAUUCGUGCAUUGCUUUAACUGGGAACUUCCACAUAAUAUUAGUCCUUCCAAUUUGAAUAUGGAGGAGAAAUUUGGACUCACUAUACCAAGAGCUCAGCAUUUGCACGCAAUACCAAGUUAUCGUUUGGAUGAUGCUAAGCUUGAAUAGUUCCAAGAAUAAUUACUAUGUUCGUGUUCAUCAAGUAUAUAAUUGGUAAAGAUGCUUAGGAGGUCUAUUAAUGAUGUUUUAAUGUAUAUUGCUUGUUCUUUAUAUAUGUUUGAUAGCCAACAUUUGAGUCUUCAUUGGGACAUGGAGGUCAAUAAAAUCACAUACCUUCAUGAUCAAUGGUAUGGUGCAAGUCUAUAGUACAAAUCUCCUUCAUCUCUACCCUAUCUCUUUCUUUUACUCAGUAUUUGUUUCAAUUCUCUGUUAUUAUUAUUACUAGGGUUGUUCGCGGUGCGGUUUGGUUCGGUUUCAAGCAUAAUAAUAAUCCAAACCGCGAGAGAAAAAAGCAUGCGGUUUGGUUUGGUUCGGUUGUUUUUUAAAAAGUCAUCCAAACCAAACCAAUGCGGUUUGGAUUGGUUCAGUUGAUGCGGUUAAUCACGAGAUAAAUAAAAAAAUUACAUUAACUUAAUAUUGCCAACUAGUACCAAGCAAUUUUAAUUAUUCAAAAAAAGAAUUUGAAGUUCCAAAAUAGCAUUACAAUACCAAUAAAAGUUAUUUAUCUAAAAUAACAUUACAGAACCAAAAUAAUAGCUGGAUAGUGUUGGGCUUGGACUUGGGUUCACUUUGGUAUUGGGCUAGUACAAUACUUACUUAGUUUAAUAACAUUGAGUAUUUUUGCGGUUUGGUUUGGUUUGGUUCGGUUGCUGAGAUGUAAACCGCAAACCGAACCGAACCGCGCGGUUCAGUCUAAAAAUCAUCCGAACUCAUCCGAACCAAGUGCGGUUUUUUGCGGUUUCAGUUUGGGUUGGUUCGGUUUGCGGUUUUUCUAUUGGGUUGGUUCGGUUUUGAACACCCCUAAUUAUUACUGAUUUUAAAAUUGGUAUGGCACACUUUAGAAAUGAGGUAGACCUGAAGUUCUAAAGUUUUUUUAACACAACAUAUCACACAUGACAACUUAAUAACUAGAAUACUGCUCCAUUAAGAUUGGAGAACAACAUAUAAAAGAUGUAAAUACUUAUUAUUCCUCUAUGGUUUUCCACAAUGUACAUGUAUAAUAUACUGCACAUUAACUAUUAUUUGAUUCAAAAAGUAUUAAAGUAUGUUUAUAUUUUUAUUUGUAUUAUGUAUUGAUAUCAAAAUAAUGAAUAUCAUUCAAAAAAAAAAAAAAAAUCAAAAUAAUGAAUAUGGGUGGCAUUUAGGGUGGGAAGGGGAAAGAUUUUCCCACCAUAGGUCAGUUGACAUUUUACCGUUAAAUUAAAAAGGAAUACUGAUUUUAUUAUGGACUGUCUACACCCUAUCUUUUCCCACCCACCUUUCUCUCUCCUCCUUGCUCUCCACCACCCGCAACAUCACCUACAGCCACUAUCACCACCGGUUCCUUCCAUUCUCGUCCAAAGCAAGCUUCAGAUCCGACGCACCUAGCUCAAUCUCUCUUUUCCAGUUUCUCUUAAUCAUUCAAUCGCCCCAUUUAUAUCCCCCCUUCGUAAAAAAUUCCAUGAUGUGAUAAUCCAAAUAUGGGCUAUAAUAUUACUGUAAUAUUUAUUGUUUGCUACUUAAUUUUAGUUCAAUGGGUCACUACAUAUAUAUUAAUUAUCGAUUCUUACAGGUUUGAUUGAAGCCUAUGAAGAUUGAUUUUUAACUUUUUUUAGAUUGCAACUCAUGAAGAUUGAUUUUGAUAAUUGGUUCCAUAAAAAGCAUGUUUCUUAAUUGUAAGCACGUGAAGAUUUUUGGGUUGUAGUUUCAUGGUGGCUGGUGGUGGUGGGUGAGUGGGGGUAUGGAGGAGAGAGAAGAAUGGUGAGGUGAGUGAGGUUGGAGACAGAUUGAAAAAAUAUAGUGUGGGUAGACCAUAGUAUGAUUAGUGUUCCUAUUUGAUCUAAUGGUCAAAAUCAACUUUUUUAUGGUAGGAAACUCUUUCCCUUACCCACCCUAAAUGCCACCAUGAAUAUGAGAGAGUUUUGUGUAACUUUUUUGCAUGUGUUGUUUUCUGACUCUAGAUUUGGAUAACAAAACAAUCAAGUCUUUUGUUCUCUUUCUCUAUUAUAGAUCUACUUUCUCUCUCUCUCUAUGAUUCCCGUGCUAUACUAGAUCUGACAACUGAACUCUUGCGACUCAAUAAUUUCUUUCUUCAAUAUGAACUUUAAGACCAAAUUUAGUUUCUAAAUCUUAAAAAAUUUAAUCAUAAACAAUAACAUUUUAGUACAUAAAUUAAUUUCCAAAACCUGAUCUUUCUCCUGUAGACCAAAUAUAUUGUCUAUCCUGUUUCAUGUUUGUAAAUUGUAACAAGUUAAUUUUUUUUUUUUUAAGUUGUAACAUUCUAGUCAAAUACCUCACUGGAUCUUCUAAGUUUUACGUUUGUUUCAGAUAGGUCCUUUAAGUUUUUAAGGUUUUAGAUAUGUCAUUUAAGUUUCGAGUUUGUUUCAGAUAUGUCUUUUAAGUUUCUAAGGUUUCAGAUAGGUCCUUUAAAUUUCGAAUUUAUUUCAGAUAGAUCAUUUCUAUCGAAUCAACUUUAAAAAAUUAACUUAUUAUAAACAACCAACUUAAAAAUCGCUAGAAGUAUUUGACCUUUCCAUAACCAAAAUCUAAAAAACAAAUGUGGUAUUUUUCCUAUAAGACCACUUUCAAAAUCACUCAUGCUGCUGUAUUACUCGAGAUAAGAUUUAAAUUGCAAAUGUAAAUAUUAAAAAGAGGGUUAAUUAAAUUUUUAGUCCCUUUUUUUUUUUUAAAAAAAAAAAAGAAUUUUUAGUCUCUAUAAAUAUUCACAGUUUUGUUUUUAGUCUAUACAAAAUAAAAUCACACUUUUUAGUCAAUGUGACAUUUUAAGGACUAAAAAUGCUGAUGAAAUUUUUUUAUAUAGACGAAAAAUGCUAAUGAAAAAUUUUAUAGAGACUAAAAAUAUUGAUGGAAAAUUUUAUAGGGACUAAAAAAUGUGAUUUUACUUUGUAGGGACUAAAAACAAAAUUAUGAAUAUUUAUAAGGACCAUUUACUUAUUAACCCUUAAAAAGAUGAAUGUUAUUUGAACAACCGUUUGGUUGACAACUUUUGGAACAACUAUAAUUUACAAAGAAAAAGUAGGUAUGUGAACGAAAACCAUAGUAGAAAGAUAAAGUAAAGAAUAACGUAAGUAUGAUUGAGAAAGUUGUCAAAAAAAUUAUUAAAAAAUGGAUGUUCUAAUAUCAUUCCUCUAUUAAAAAACGUUACUAUUUGAUCACAUUAUUAGUAAGUUAUCUUGCUCAGCUAGUAAAUUAUUAUACCGAUGGAGUUUUCACGGUGAAUCAAAUUACACAGUGCUUUGAAAACGAGGAGGAUAACAUCCUUCUUUUACUUUUUAAAUUGACAAGCAUGCACAACGAGAUGGAUAAAAGAAUAUUAAAAUAAUGGUAAAUCAUAUCCAACGUGUGCAUGUACAUUGUCGGUUGUAACAAAUCGACGUUCAUAAAAUGUACGUGCAUAGUUGAUCAUUUAAAAAAAAAAAAAUAUUUGAAUGAUGUUUUUCAUAUUUGCAAUUAGGUGUCAUUUAAAAAUUAGUUCAUAUAAUUGCUAAUCCUGACAAUUUACAUUUGCAUUAUUUAAUCAUUUAAAAUUUUAUCUUUUGACCAACUUAAUCACAAAUUAGCAAAAUGAUACGGAAAUGGACAAAUAUACCCUCGUCGUUAUUAUGAGAAGAAGACUAAGACAAGGGUAGAAAUACAUAAAUAUCUCCAUAAAUAUCUCACUAGCUAGAUAUACAAACCAAACACGUACACCACCGGUUUCAAGAUAAUCUGAGAUUAACUUGGAGUUCUAUAUAGUCUUCAACCUUGUUACGUACUUCAGCCAAACCAAAGCAUUCAUUGUAGACAUGUCUUUUGCACUAACAACAACAAUGUUUGCUUUUCUUCUCUUCACUUUCAUGUACUUUCUAUUCAAACUCUACUUACAUCCAAAACAAAAAACCCUAAACCAUAAAAAACCACCAGGUCCAUCAACACUACCAAUAAUUGGAAAUCUUCACAUAUUAGGCAAACUUCCACAUAGAACACUUCAAUCACUCUCCAAAAAAUAUGGUCCAAUCAUGUCCUUACAACUUGGUCAAGUUCCAACUAUUAUCAUUUCAUCUUCAAAAGCUGCAGAAUCAUUCCUCAAAACUCAUGACAUCGUUUUUGCAAGUCGACCAAAGGUUCAAGGAUCAGAUCUCAUGUCUUAUGGUUCCAAAGGGAUGGCUUUUUCUGAGUAUGGUCCUUAUUGGCGUAGUGUGAGGAAAUUUUGCACUUUGAAACUUUUUAGUGCUUCAAAAGUUGAGAUGUUUGGUCCUAUUAGGAAGGAGAAGUUGGAUGUUUUGGUUAUAUCUUUGGAGAAAGCUGCCUUGGAGGGUGAGGUUGUGAAUGUUAGUGAGGUUGUAGAGAAUCUUAUUGAGGAUAUUGUGUAUAAGAUGAUGUUUGGUCGGAGUAAGUAUGAGCAAUUUGACAUGAAUAAGUUAGUUCUAGAAGCAAUGGCUUUGAUGGGAGCUUUUAAUCUGGCUGAUUAUGUACCUUGGCUAGGCGUUUUUGACCUUCAGGUACGUCUUGACAAUUUCAUAUUAAAAAUUCUAAUUAAUUUUAUGAGAUUAUUUGAUUAUAUGGAAAAGAGGUUAACAUUGGCGCAACUGAUAAAUUUGUUGUCAUGUGACUGAAAGGUCAUAGAUUCAAGUCCGGAAAACAACCUCUUAUAUAAACAACAGGGUAAGGCUGUGUACAUUACACUAAAUGGUGGGACCCCUUCCCGGGGCCUAUGUAUGCGGGAGCUUUAGUGCACCGGGUUGCCUUUUAUUUGAUGAUAUGGAAAAAAGAAAAAUAUUUAUAGUUUAUUGAUAUUUAAUUGGUGGUUAAGACUUGAGAGUAUCUUUGUGUUGAUUUUUUAUAAUUUUUAUAAAGAUGUAUCUUUGUGUUGAUAUCGCUAUAUAAGAAAGAAAAAGAUUGAAUAUUGUGCGUUGUGUUUGAAUGGAGGGUUUAAGAAGAAAAGGGAGGAGAAGAUUUACUUUUUUUUUUUUUUUAAAUUAGUAACACUAAAAUGUUUUUCAAAAAUUGAAAUAACAUGUGAUUUUUCCUCUAUGGCAAUAAAUUGGGUUACCUGAUUUUAUUUCAAUUGCCCUUCACUUUUAAUUAAACUUCUUCAGAUUCUUUCUCAUGUAACCAAAAUAAAUAGAUAGUAAAUAAAUAAAUCAGCUAUCGAUUUCAUACUCAAUUUACAUAUGCUUUUGUUAAGUUCAGUGAAAAUAUUCAUGUAGUAGCUGAUAUCAAUUAUAAGUUUAAUUUUUUGUUAGGGAUUAACACGAGCUUGCAAAAAAACCAGUAAAGCCCUCGAUGAGGUUUUGGAGAUGAUAAUAACAGAGCACGAACAGACUACUAAUACUGACAAAACUCGUAAUGAAGACUUUGUAGACAUACUUCUUUCAAUUAUGCACCAAACCAUUGAUGUCGAGGGUGAACAAAAUCUCGUCAUUGAUCGAACUAACAUCAAGGCUAUUUUGCUCGACAUGAUAGCGGCAUCAGUUCAUACAUCUGCUACCACGAUUGAGUGGGCUUUAUCUGAACUUCUAAGGCAUUCAAGAGUGAUGAAAAUUCUUCAAGAUGAGAUACAAAAUGAAGUAGGAAAUAAAAGAAUGGUUGAAGAGAAGGAUCUGAAGAAGUUUAAUUACUUAGAUAUGGUUGUUGAUGAAACCUUAAGACUUUAUCCUGUUGGACCCUUAUUAAUCCCUCGUGAAUGUAGAGAGAGCAUAACAAUUGAUGGAUAUUUUAUAACGAAAAAGACUCGAGUUAUAGUAAAUGCAUGGGCUAUUGGGAGAGAUUGUAACGUUUGGUCAGAAAAUGCUGAUGAAUUUUACCCAGAGAGAUUUAUUGACAAGAAAAUGAAUUAUCAAGGACAUGAGUUUGAAUCUAUACCAUUUGGUUCUGGUCGUAGGCGUUGUCCUGGAAUUCAAUUGGGUUUAAUUAUCGUUAAGUUGGUUAUAGCUCAAUUUGUGCAUUGCUUUAACUGGGAACUUCCACAUAAUAUUAGUCCUUCCAAUUUGAAUAUGGAGGAGAAAUUUGGACUCUCUAUACCAAGAGCUCAGCAUUUGCAGGCAAUACCGAGUUAUCGUUUGGAUGAUGCUAAGCAUGAAUAGUUACAAGAAUAAUACUAUGUUCUUGUUCAACAAGUUUCUACUAGUAAUAAAGAUGCUAAGUAUGGCAGGUCUAUUAAUGAUGUUUUAAUGCAUAUUGCUUGUUCUUUAUAUAUGUUCAUAGCCAACAUUUGAGUCUCCAUUGGGACAUGGAGGUCAAUAAAAUGAAUAAUACAAGCAUAUCACAUGCCUUCAUGAUCAAUGGUAUGGUGCAAAGUAUUUUACUCAAAGUAUUUGUUUCAAUUCUGUUUUAUCAUUAUUAUUAUUAUUACUGAAUUUAAAAUUGGUAUGGGACAUAUGGUGUGUUUGGAUUCACGGCCAAAACACCUUUUCCACGUCCCGAGGUAAUUUUUAACGUGAUUUAAAGAAGCUUCAAAAGGUAGCUUCUCUUCAAACGUGGGUUUUUAUCACUGAAUUGAUAAAUCAACCGCUUGCACAAACAUGCUAAUAUCAAUUCUAGAAAUGAGGUAGACCUUCAAAUUCUAAAGCUUUUUUAACACAACAUAUCACACAUGACAACAAAACUAGAAUGUUACUAUGGAGAUUGUAGAACGACAAAUAAGAUGAAGUUAAUCAAAGAAACAGAGAUACAAACCUUAACUCAGCUAAUGAUAAAUUUUUAAAAUUGAUGGAGUUUUUUAUGGUGAAUCAAACUAUUCAGUACUAUGAAAACACUACUUCCAAUAUUUCCUCUAAUCAAAUUAUUUAUUUGUUCCUCUAAUUUCUAGAAUUUUAGGCAUCCCUUAUGUUAUAAUUGCAUGAAAAUCUGUAUUUAUACUUUCACAACCUAAAAGUUGUCUUGAACUAACAAAUCCAAAUAAAAUUUUGGGGAAAUGGAUUUCCUCCUGUGAAAAUCUCUCCAGUUUUCUGCAGUGAUACAAUCUGCACCAUUAAUUGUCUUCUCUUUUAUUUUCAACAUUUAAAAUUCUCAUAUACAUUAAUUUUUAAUGGACAAGAUUUCACUGGACUCUCGUGUGACCACCGGAGAGAUUCCAAACCCAAACUUUGGUAUCAUUACAAUAAGGUACUGGGCAUUAUUCUCUACUCAUGAUUAUUAUGAAAUUAAAAUUGAGACUAUUAUUAAUUCAAAUUUCUAAAAACAAUUACAAAGCAAGCAUAAACCAGUGAACUAAUUCUUCAUACCAUUGUGAACCUGAUGUCAUAGGUUGAAUUAGCACUCUAUGACAAAUUUAAGAAAAUCAGUUACAAGUUAGUUGAAAAUAGUGGACCGGAUUAUCACUUUAAUUAUUGGAAUAACUGAUCAUAUACAUAAACACUUGUAUGAUAAACACUUAUUCAAUAAGCAAUUAACUGAUAAUUUCUCUAAUUUCUUCACUCCUAAUUUAUUCAUAUGUUGGCUAUUAACAUAUAAUAAAAACUAGCAAUACUCAUUAACUUAUUCUAUUCAAGCACCAUUAGACCAACUUAUAACAUCUUUACUAGUAAUAAACUUGUUGAAUACAAGCAUAAUAAUGUCCUUUAUGGACCUAUUCAAGCUUCUCAUCACAUUCCAAACGAUAACUCGGUAUUGCGUGCAAAUGUUGAGCCCUUGGUAUAGUGACUCCAAAUUUCUCUUCCAUAUUCAAAUUGGAAGGGCUAAUAUUAUGUGGAAGUUCCCAAUUAAAGCAAUGCACCAAUUGAGCUACAACAAAUCUAACCGUAACCAAACCCAAUUGAAUCCCAGGACAACGUCUACGACCUGAACCAAAUGGUAUAGAUUCAAAUUGCUGUCCUUGAUAAUUCAUUUUCUUAUCACUAAAUCUCUCUGGAUAAAACUCAUCAGCGUUUUCUAACCAAAUAUUUGAAUCUCUCCCUAUAGCCCAUGCAUUUACUAUAACUCGUGUCUUUUCCUUUAUAAAAUAUCCAUCAAUUGUUAUGCUUUCUCUACAUUCACGAGGAAGUAAUAAGGGUCCAACAGGGUAAAGUCUUAAUGUCUCAUCAACCACCAUAUCUAAGUAAUUCAACUUCUUCAAAUCAUUCUCUUCGACCAUUCUUUUAUUUCCUACUUCAUUUUGUAUCUCAUCUUGAAGCUUUUUCAUCACUCUUGGAUGUCUGAAAAGUUCAGAUAAAGCCCACUCAAUCGUGGUAGUGGCUGUAUCAAUUCCUGCCACAAUCAUGUCUAGUAAAAUUGCCUUGAUGUUAGUUCUGUCAAUAACACCACUUUGUUCAUUUUCUGGAUCUACCGUUUGGUGCACAAUUGAGAGAAGUAUAUCAAUGAAAUCUUCAUGACGAACUUUGUCUACAUUAGUGCUUUGUUCAUGCUCUGUAAUUAUCAUCUCCAAUACCUCAUCAAGUGCUUUACCGGUUUUCUUGCAGGUUCGUGUAAAUCCCUAGCAAAGUGUUAAAUUAAGAAUGACAAUUACUAAUUGGAUAUUUUUACAUACCUUACUGGAACAAUAAAAAAAUGAAGAAAUAAUCAUUUUAGUCUCUGACUUUGCACCUCACUGUUACAAUAAUCUUGACUUAUGAUAAAAUGCAAAAUGGUCCCCGGAUGUUUACCUCCGUUGGUUAGUUUAGUGCUUGACGUUAAAAUUGACCGUUAAAUGCCGACAAGGAUGUGUAACAUGGAUCUAGAGACUAAAGUGAAAGUCAACACACAAAUCCUCAAAUCCCUCCAUUUUCUGUCACUUUAUGUAGUCCAUUAUUUUUACUCAAAUUUAGAAUUAAUUAAGGGACAUGGUCGUCAUGACAUUGAUUUUCUAAGAUUUACAUAGUGGGACCAAAAAUAAAAAAUAAAAAAUAUAAAAAGUGUUUGCCAAAAAAAAAAGUAAACUCAUAAACUCGAUCUAAUUUACCGAAUUUAACAUGUGUUAACUUGGUCAAACUUGUCAAACAUUCAAUUUCACCAAAAAUCAAAUUUACCUCCGAUUUGCCAGAAAUAAUAAUAAAAUAAAAAAUAUAGUGGCUUGCGGGAAUCGAAGGAGGAAAAGCAGGUAUAACCUCCGAAAAGUCACUCUCAAAGCUCAUUUUUUUAUCUUAUUUUCAAAGUCACUUUUGUUGGAUUUCCUUCUUUACAAAAAAGUCACUUCUAUUAUUAAGAGCUUUAUCAAAAUUAUGUUUGGCCCCACUUCUCUUUAGAAGUAAAAGAUAAGUGGCAAAUAAGCAGGGCCAAACAUGCUCUUAACAUAUUUUUGACACAUAAAAACGUAAAUUUGUACGAGUUGUACGAGGUUACAAGUUAACGCAGGAUUUGUGGAACACCUUAGAACAUAAAUUUAAACUUGCAAUGUCUAGUUUCUUCACAUACGUAUAUAUUUGAAAGAAGAAAAAAAAGACGGUAACCCUAGUGUUAUUGUGUCCUAGUGUUAUUGUGUUGUUCAAUUACAUGAUCCUCUUUUUUUUUCUUCCCUAUUUUCUCCCUUGUAAUACUAAAAUAUUGAAGGACCCCUCAAUUAAUACAUAAGAGGAAAAAACAUGAAGGACCCAAAACUGUGCAAUAUAAUAAAGUGACCAAUGAAAAAUGUACAGCUACGAUACUUAAGAGACUUAAAAUAAAAUCAAGUCAAUAGGUAACUAAUUUCUUCAACUUUUACACACAUACCUGAAGAUCAAAAGGACCUAACCAAGAAACAUAAUCAGCCAGAUUAAAAGCUCCAAGCAUAGCCAUUCCUUCUUGAACCAACUUCUUUAAAUCAAAUUGCUCAUACUUACCCCUACCCAAUAUCAUCUUAUACACAAUAUCUUCAAUAAGAUUCUCUACAAUCUCACUAACAUUCACAACCUCACCUACCAAAACAACUUUCUCUAAUGACUUAACCAAAACAUCCAACUCCUUCUUCCUAAUAGGACCAAACAUCUCAACUUUUGAAGCACUAAGAAGUUUCAAAGUGCAAAGUUUCUUUACACUACGCCAAUAAGGACCAUACUCAGAAAAAGCCAACCCUUUGGAACCAUAAAAAAUGAGCUGAGAUGCUUGAGUCUUUGGCCGACUUGCAAAAUUGAUGUCAUGAGUUUUGAGGAAUGAUUCUGCAGCUUUUGAAGAUGAAAUAACAAUUGUUGGAACUUGACCAAGUUGUAAGGACAUGAUUGAACCAUAUUUUUUGGACAGUGAUUGAAGUGUUCUAUGUGGAAGUUUACCUAACAUGUGAAGGUUUCCUAUUAUUGGUAGUGUUGGUGGACCUGGUGGUUUUUUAUGAUUUAUGGUGUUUUGUUUUUCACGUAAGUAGAAUUUGAAUAAAAGGUAUGUGAAAGUGAAGAGAAUGAAAGGAAUUAUUAUUGUUGUUGAAAACAUGUUUACAGUGAAUUCUUUGGAUCUAAGUUCUAAGGAUGAGAACUAUAAAGAAUUAUUAGUGUUGCUUGAUUGAGGAUUUGAAGAUGGUGCAGCCGUGCAAGUGAUAGAAUAAUUAUUAGUUAAAUAAAGGUGGAAACAAAUAAUUUUGAUUUGUUUAAUUGGUAUCGCUUUCCGUUAACAAAAACUUACAUAUAAGUUGAAUCAUGUUUUACAAUAUAUAUAUUAUAUUAUGUAGGAGAAGAUUUAUGAAUUCUUUUUUUAGGGGAUUUUCAUGAAUUCUUUUAAAAUAUAUUUACAGUAAACUAAUAUAAUAAAAUGACGUGAUGGUAAAAUAUGAUUUAUUUUUUGUGGUGGUCGAGGUUUGACUCAAACCUUGCAUAUAUUAUACAUUGUUUCUAUCAACUGAGCUAAGCUCAAGAAGAUAUGAUAAAAUAUGAUUAUGUUAAUUGAAGUAUUUUUCUCCUUAAUAGAAAGUAUUUUUAAAUGACAAAUAUCAAUCCUUCAAAGAAAAUGACAAAUAUCAAAUAUGUUAAUUGGCUUAAAUGCUCUUUUGGUCCCUUAACUAUUUAAUUGGUAUCGCUUUGGUCCCUUAACUAAAAAAAAGAUUGUUUGAGGACUUUAAGUUUUUUUUUAGUCUCGUUUUGGUCCCUUCUGUUAGGUUUCCGUUAGGGUUUUAAAAAAAGUUAACUCUUGGACACUNNNNNNNNNNNNNNNNNNNNNNNNNNNNNNNNNNNNNNNNNNNNNNNNNNNNNNNNNNNNNNNNNNNNNNNNNNNNNNNNNNNNNNNNNNNNNNNNNNNNNNNNNNNNNNNNNNNNNNNNNNNNNNNNNNNNNNNNNNNNNNNNNNNNNNNNNNNNNNNNNNNNNNNNNNNNNNNNNNNNNNNNNNNNNNNNNNNNNNNNNNNNNNNNNNNNNNNNNNNNNNNNNNNNNNNNNNNNNNNNNNNNNNNNNNNNNNNNNNNNNNNNNNNNNNNNNNNNNNNNNNNNNNNNNNNNNNNNNNNNNNNNNNNNNNNNNNNNNNNNNNNNNNNNNNNNNNNNNNNNNNNNNNNNNNNNNNNNNNNNNNNNNNNNNNNNNNNNNNNNNNNNNNNNNNNNNNNNNNNNNNNNNNNNNNNNNNNNNNNNNNNNNNNNNNNNNNNNNNNNNNNNNNNNNNNNNNNNNNNNNNNNNNNNNNNNNNNNNNNNNNNNNNNNNNNNNNNNNNNNNNNNNNNNNNNNNNNNNNNNNNNNNNNNNNNNNNNNNNNNNNNNNNNNNNNNNNNNNNNNNNNNNNNNNNNNNNNNNNNNNNNNNNNNNNNNNNNNNNNNNNNNNNNNNNNNNNNNNNNNNNNNNNNNNNNNNNNNNNNNNNNNNNNNNNNNNNNNNNNNNNNNNNNNNNNNNNNNNNNNNNNNNNNNNNNNNNNNNNNNNNNNNNNNNNNNNNNNNNNNNNNNNNNNNNNNNNNNNNNNNNNNNNNNNNNNNNNNNNNNNNNNNNNNNNNNNNNNNNNNNNNNNNNNNNNNNNNNNNNNNNNNNNNNNNNNNNNNNNNNNNNNNNNNNNNNNNNNNNNNNNNNNNNNNNNNNNNNNNNNNNNNNNNNNNNNNNNNNNNNNNNNNNNNNNNNNNNNNNNNNNNNNNNNNNNNNNNNNNNNNNNNNNNNNNNNNNNNNNNNNNNNNNNNNNNNNNNNNNNNNNNNNNNNNNNNNNNNNNNNNNNNNNNNNNNNNNNNNNNNNNNNNNNNNNNNNNNNNNNNNNNNNNNNNNNNNNNNNNNNNNNNNNNNNNNNNNNNNNNNNNNNNNNNNNNNNNNNNNNNNNNNNNNNNNNNNNNNNNNNNNNNNNNNNNNNNNNNNNNNNNNNNNNNNNNNNNNNNNNNNNNNNNNNNNNNNNNNNNNNNNNNNNNNNNNNNNNNNNNNNNNNNNNNNNNNNNNNNNNNNNNNNNNNNNNNNNNNNNNNNNNNNNNNNNNNNNNNNNNNNNNNNNNNNNNNNNNNNNNNNNNNNNNNNNNNNNNNNNNNNNNNNNNNNNNNNNNNNNNNNNNNNNNNNNNNNNNNNNNNNNNNNNNNNNNNNNNNNNNNNNNNNNNNNNNNNNNNNNNNNNNNNNNNNNNNNNNNNNNNNNNNNNNNNNNNNNNNNNNNNNNNNNNNNNNNNNNNNNNNNNNNNNNNNNNNNNNNNNNNNNNNNNNNNNNNNNNNNNNNNNNNNNNNNNNNNNNNNNNNNNNNNNNNNNNNNNNNNNNNNNNNNNNNNNNNNNNNNNNNNNNNNNNNNNNNNNNNNNNNNNNNNNNNNNNNNNNNNNNNNNNNNNNNNNNNNNNNNNNNNNNNNNNNNNNNNNNNNNNNNNNNNNNNNNNNNNNNNNNNNNNNNNNNNNNNNNNNNNNNNNNNNNNNNNNNNNNNNNNNNNNNNNNNNNNNNNNNNNNNNNNNNNNNNNNNNNNNNNNNNNNNNNNNNNNNNNNNNNNNNNNNNNNNNNNNNNNNNNNNNNNNNNNNNNNNNNNNNNNNNNNNNNNNNNNNNNNNNNNNNNNNNNNNNNNNNNNNNNNNNNNNNNNNNNNNNNNNNNNNNNNNNNNNNNNNNNNNNNNNNNNNNNNNNNNNNNNNNNNNNNNNNNNNNNNNNNNNNNNNNNNNNNNNNNNNNNNNNNNNNNNNNNNNNNNNNNNNNNNNNNNNNNNNNNNNNNNNNNNNNNNNNNNNNNNNNNNNNNNNNNNNNNNNNNNNNNNNNNNNNNNNNNNNNNNNNNNNNNNNNNNNNNNNNNNNNNNNNNNNNNNNNNNNNNNNNNNNNNNNNNNNNNNNNNNNNNNNNNNNNNNNNNNNNNNNNNNNNNNNNNNNNNNNNNNNNNNNNNNNNNNNNNNNNNNNNNNNNNNNNNNNNNNNNNNNNNNNNNNNNNNNNNNNNNNNNNNNNNNNNNNNNNNNNNNNNNNNNNNNNNNNNNNNNNNNNNNNNNNNNNNNNNNNNNNNNNNNNNNNNNNNNNNNNNNNNNNNNNNNNNNNNNNNNNNNNNNNNNNNNNNNNNNNNNNNNNNNNNNNNNNNNNNNNNNNNNNNNNNNNNNNNNNNNNNNNNNNNNNNNNNNNNNNNNNNNNNNNNNNNNNNNNNNNNNNNNNNNNNNNNNNNNNNNNNNNNNNNNNNNNNNNNNNNNNNNNNNNNNNNNNNNNNNNNNNNNNNNNNNNNNNNNNNNNNNNNNNNNNNNNNNNNNNNNNNNNNNNNNNNNNNNNNNNNNNNNNNNNNNNNNNNNNNNNNNNNNNNNNNNNNNNNNNNNNNNNNNNNNNNNNNNNNNNNNNNNNNNNNNNNNNNNNNNNNNNNNNNNNNNNNNNNNNNNNNNNNNNNNNNNNNNNNNNNNNNNNNNNNNNNNNNNNNNNNNNNNNNNNNNNNNNNNNNNNNNNNNNNNNNNNNNNNNNNNNNNNNNNNNNNNNNNNNNNNNNNNNNNNNNNNNNNNNNNNNNNNNNNNNNNNNNNNNNNNNNNNNNNNNNNNNNNNNNNNNNNNNNNNNNNNNNNNNNNNNNNNNNNNNNNNNNNNNNNNNNNNNNNNNNNNNNNNNNNNNNNNNNNNNNNNNNNNNNNNNNNNNNNNNNNNNNNNNNNNNNNNNNNNNNNNNNNNNNNNNNNNNNNNNNNNNNNNNNNNNNNNNNNNNNNNNNNNNNNNNNNNNNNNNNNNNNNNNNNNNNNNNNNNNNNNNNNNNNNNNNNNNNNNNNNNNNNNNNNNNNNNNNNNNNNNNNNNNNNNNNNNNNNNNNNNNNNNNNNNNNNNNNNNNNNNNNNNNNNNNNNNNNNNNNNNNNNNNNNNNNNNNNNNNNNNNNNNNNNNNNNNNNNNNNNNNNNNNNNNNNNNNNNNNNNNNNNNNNNNNNNNNNNNNNNNNNNNNNNNNNNNNNNNNNNNNNNNNNNNNNNNNNNNNNNNNNNNNNNNNNNNNNNNNNNNNNNNNNNNNNNNNNNNNNNNNNNNNNNNNNNNNNNNNNNNNNNNNNNNNNNNNNNNNNNNNNNNNNNNNNNNNNNNNNNNNNNNNNNNNNNNNNNNNNNNNNNNNNNNNNNNNNNNNNNNNNNNNNNNNNNNNNNNNNNNNNNNNNNNNNNNNNNNNNNNNNNNNNNNNNNNNNNNNNNNNNNNNNNNNNNNNNNNNNNNNNNNNNNNNNNNNNNNNNNNNNNNNNNNNNNNNNNNNNNNNNNNNNNNNNNNNNNNNNNNNNNNNNNNNNNNNNNNNNNNNNNNNNNNNNNNNNNNNNNNNNNNNNNNNNNNNNNNNNNNNNNNNNNNNNNNNNNNNNNNNNNNNNNNNNNNNNNNNNNNNNNNNNNNNNNNNNNNNNNNNNNNNNNNNNNNNNNNNNNNNNNNNNNNNNNNNNNNNNNNNNNNNNNNNNNNNNNNNNNNNNNNNNNNNNNNNNNNNNNNNNNNNNNNNNNNNNNNNNNNNNNNNNNNNNNNNNNNNNNNNNNNNNNNNNNNNNNNNNNNNNNNNNNNNNNNNNNNNNNNNNNNNNNNNNNNNNNNNNNNNNNNNNNNNNNNNNNNNNNNNNNNNNNNNNNNNNNNNNNNNNNNNNNNNNNNNNNNNNNNNNNNNNNNNNNNNNNNNNNNNNNNNNNNNNNNNNNNNNNNNNNNNNNNNNNNNNNNNNNNNNNNNNNNNNNNNNNNNNNNNNNNNNNNNNNNNNNNNNNNNNNNNNNNNNNNNNNNNNNNNNNNNNNNNNNNNNNNNNNNNNNNNNNNNNNNNNNNNNNNNNNNNNNNNNNNNNNNNNNNNNNNNNNNNNNNNNNNNNNNNNNNNNNNNNNNNNNNNNNNNNNNNNNNNNNNNNNNNNNNNNNNNNNNNNNNNNNNNNNNNNNNNNNNNNNNNNNNNNNNNNNNNNNNNNNNNNNNNNNNNNNNNNNNNNNNNNNNNNNNNNNNNNNNNNNNNNNNNNNNNNNNNNNNNNNNNNNNNNNNNNNNNNNNNNNNNNNNNNNNNNNNNNNNNNNNNNNNNNNNNNNNNNNNNNNNNNNNNNNNNNNNNNNNNNNNNNNNNNNNNNNNNNNNNNNNNNNNNNNNNNNNNNNNNNNNNNNNNNNNNNNNNNNNNNNNNNNNNNNNNNNNNNNNNNNNNNNNNNNNNNNNNNNNNNNNNNNNNNNNNNNNNNNNNNNNNNNNNNNNNNNNNNNNNNNNNNNNNNNNNNNNNNNNNNNNNNNNNNNNNNNNNNNNNNNNNNNNNNNNNNNNNNNNNNNNNNNNNNNNNNNNNNNNNNNNNNNNNNNNNNNNNNNNNNNNNNNNNNNNNNNNNNNNNNNNNNNNNNNNNNNNNNNNNNNNNNNNNNNNNNNNNNNNNNNNNNNNNNNNNNNNNNNNNNNNNNNNNNNNNNNNNNNNNNNNNNNNNNNNNNNNNNNNNNNNNNNNNNNNNNNNNNNNNNNNNNNNNNNNNNNNNNNNNNNNNNNNNNNNNNNNNNNNNNNNNNNNNNNNNNNNNNNNNNNNNNNNNNNNNNNNNNNNNNNNNNNNNNNNNNNNNNNNNNNNNNNNNNNNNNNNNNNNNNNNNNNNNNNNNNNNNNNNNNNNNNNNNNNNNNNNNNNNNNNNNNNNNNNNNNNNNNNNNNNNNNNNNNNNNNNNNNNNNNNNNNNNNNNNNNNNNNNNNNNNNNNNNNNNNNNNNNNNNNNNNNNNNNNNNNNNNNNNNNNNNNNNNNNNNNNNNNNNNNNNNNNNNNNNNNNNNNNNNNNNNNNNNNNNNNNNNNNNNNNNNNNNNNNNNNNNNNNNNNNNNNNNNNNNNNNNNNNNNNNNNNNNNNNNNNNNNNNNNNNNNNNNNNNNNNNNNNNNNNNNNNNNNAUUGCAUACUCAUUUCUGCACUUAGAUAACUUCUGAUUCAGGUUGGUAUUCACUUUGUUGCCAUUCAUUUCAAAUUUGCAUGCAAAAAAAAAAAAAAAAAAAAAAAAAAAAAAAACCCUAGGGUAGUAGAUAGUGUAAUGUUCUUCAAACUGAUACCUACAUGACUCAGAUGAAACAUAAUCAUGCCCAAAUUCGUGGUUGUUCUGAUUCCAAUCCACAUUUUUGUUAACCCUUUUGUAAAAAUUAAAAAUAAAAUUAAAAUUAGGGUUUUUGUGGUAUAAUUCGACAUUCAACUCAAAAGCAUGAUUUAGUUCAUCUCUUUGUCAUUAUCAGGGUCGGAAUUACUAUAUUUAGGGUUAAGAAUGUUGAAACUGAAAGAAAUUUUGAAAAAGGGUCGAUUUUUGUCAUUUUCUGGGCAACUCGCCAUGGCGAGCUUCAUCAUUCGCCAAGGCGAGUGAGCAAUCUGAAACCCAGAAAAUUUCAACUACUCGCCAUGGCGAGUGCACCUGCUCGCGAGGCGAGUGGUAACAGAACAUGCAAUAUUUUUUGUUCCAUACUGAUAUUUAAUUGUCUGUUUGGUGUUUGUGGAAUUCCUGGUUGUGUUUGCAGGUAUGGCUCCAAAGAAACCCGUUAACACUGGUAAACGCAAGAAAGGAGAAACAUCCGCAACCCGACCCCCACCUAGAAACCAAGCCUUUGAGAGGGAGAGAUUUAGGUCUCGCUACCAUCAAGAUAGAUAUAUUGAACUGCUUGACCAAUCCAUGUGGUGUGAGAGGGUCUUUAACCUUAAUCCCGAGGGACCCUAUAAAGAAAUUGCCAAACUUUUACUCGAUCAAGGAUGGGAACGACUCCUUCAACCCAUAACAGAUAUUAAUGCCGAGUUAGUGCGUGAGUUUUAUGCCAAUGCCCUACCUGAAAAUCCACACACUGACCCAUUUACAUUCGAAACUUUUGUGAGGGGUCGAACUAUCCGGUUUGACCGUGAGGCAAUAAAUACAUACCUUGGCAACCCCUUUGAGUUAGCCUACCCAGACGACCUUGAUGACUUUCAUGAGAAGCAAAACCUUGGCCACUUUAUCCUCCCGGGCCCCCAUGAAGAAAUCAAACGAUUUCUCUUGUUGGGAGACUAUAACUAUGACAUCAGUGAUGCAGGGAGAGAGUAUCGGGCCCAAUACAAAUUCAUGACCAAUGAGGCCAAAAUUAUCCAAAAAUUCAUUCUUUAUAAUGUCAGGCCCAAUAGUCAUCUGUCUGAUUGUGUUGUCGAGGUGUGUCCUUUAAUCUACUACAUCCUCAAGGGGAUCAAGGUAGAUAUUGCCCGGACCAUUGCUUGGGAACUCCGAAUGGUCACCCUGCAAGGAAGAGGUGAAAGAGAAGCUCGUCUCUUUUUUCCCGGUUUAAUCAUGGGACUCAUUAAAGAUACCGGCAUGCGCCUACCAACCAGUGUCCAUGAGAAGAUCCGGAACCCGAUCAAUGAUGCUUUCAUCACCCGAUACAUUAUGGGUGAAACAAAGAAGGAUAAAAGCAAACAAGCAUCAUCUUCUGGGGCACCUCCACCACGACCUCAACCAUCAUCUGAACCACAACCCCACUUUCCACCACAUCUAGACCCACACACUGCUGCUUUUGACUUUUCAAGCUUCGCUCAAUGGCAAUACCAGUGCCAUACCCAUACAUGGAACAUGCUGGACGCAACCAACCGUGCUAAUACAUAUCUUCAGCAGUCUCAGUAUGUGAUGCAGCAGCAGGCUGGGUACCCACCGGAGGUGAUGUCACAAUUCAUGACACCAGAGGCCUAUCAGGCUCAUGUUUCUUGGCCUGAGGGCAGGCCAGAUCCUUACGGAGGGGGUGGAUCAUCGUUCGGGACGCUUUCUGACGAUAUAUUGAUGGGAGAUUCUGACAGAGACGAUCCAGACAGAGUCCCAAGUGCAACUGGUGGUUCAGAUGAUCAUGACAUGCAGGGUUGAAAGAGGAAAAGAAUGACUUUGAAAGCUCACCGUUUAUUGAGUGACAUUUUUAUAAAGCUUUCAGUCUAUUCUUUCUUUCUCUUUCAUUUCUUCUGACAAUAUUUGCUUCUGUUCAUAUUUUAAAUUUAGCACAAUGACUCACUUUGUUUAGUUAGCAUUUUGUUUAAUUAUUUUGGUAUUUUCGUAUUCAUAUUCGUAUUGUUCAAAGUUGUAUUGUGUUGUUUUAUAUUAGCACUUUUGGUUUAUAUCAAGUACUUUGUUUUGAAAAUUGUGGAAGUUUCUUUAGUUUAUCACUCUUGCUUAUUGAAAAGAAAAUGCUCAAAGCUUCAAAUUUCAAAGCGCUUGAAAGAGCCAAAACUUGAGCAAAAUUCUCAGAUGAUUGAUAAUAACAGAUGGUUUGUGAUAAAGCGCAAAGCCAAGGUACAAGUUUCCAGUUUUUCUAGGUUUUUACUUGAAUAGGAAACGAGUACUUUGCACAAAUUUCAAUUCAUUUAGUUCUCCUCGAUAAUGUGUUUGUUUGUGAACCACUUAGUACUAGCUAAAAAGUGAGGAAACCUCAAAUAUUUGUACUAUAUGCAAGGAGACCGGCAUUCAUUGUUUUAACUCGGUCAUUUUAUGUUAAAUCUAAUAUUUGUUUUAAAUUGUGUAAAGACAUGGAAAGGAUCAAGGCAUAUUUUGUUUAAUGAGAGAAACAUACUUGACCACAAAUAGCCUACCUUGUGAGAAGAGCGAGUAUUUGUUAACCCACUUGAGCCAAAUGAAGCAAGGUCCUCAAUUAUGAACUGUCAAUUCAUAAGCACAAUGCUUGAUGAAUUCGCCCUAUAUUUUUCAAAAUCCAGUUCAUUUUUGUUGCACUAUCGGACCUUGAUAUGUUUUAAUUGUUGAACCCUAAACCUUCAUUGUUAUUUGUCCCUUUUUGCCAUAGAUUAAGGGAACAUUCAAAUAGGGUAUGUUUUCAUUCAAGUUGGGGAGAAAAGGUAGAUGUUCAUCAUUUGUCAAGUGAAUUGGUGUAAUCAGAAAUUUUGAUCAAGACAACAUUGUUUGUAUAUGAAAAAAGAAAGAAAAAGAAAAAUGUGUACAUGAUAAAAACAAGAAAAGAAGAAAAAGAAAAAGAAAGAAAAAUCCAAAAAUAGAAUAAGUUGUCAAGAUCAAGGAGUAUCAUGUUUUAACACCAAGGGUUUGUUAGGGAAUUCUAGUAAAUUUGUCUUUUGAAUGUGAAUAGAAGGAAUGUUCCCUUAUGCUUGACCAUUUGAAUUCAAUUGACCCACAAAUGUCCUUUCUUUUGUAGCCAAGCCAAAUUACAACCCUAAAAGACCUUUUGAUCCAUGUUUUUAUGCUUUUUGAAAUGAUAAUUGGAUGGACAUAUAACUUGAUUUGGAUGUUAACUUGAUUGCCGGAUGUGUGUUCAUAACCCUCACUCAUUUGAUUUCAAUUGCAUAUCUACUUACAAAGAAGUGUGUUAGGUGUGGUUCGUGAAUAAAUGUUUUAUUGACUUGAACUAUUUGACAUGAACUUUGUGCAUAGAACUCAUUUCAUAUUUGUGGUAGAAUUCCAGAUUAGUUGGAAACUCAGACUUGCCCGCGCAUUCUCUUUGAAUCAUUCAUCUAAAAAUGUUUUCAAACCUUUUGUACUUGUGUCUUGUCAUAUUAACUUGUUUGAUUUUCAAGAUUUUGUUUGAGGACAAACAAAGAGUUAAGUUGGGGAGAGUUUGAUAAGUGCUAGAAAGUUGUAAUUUAAGUGAUAUAUUUUAGGCACUUUUGUUACUUGUUUUGCAAGUUAUUAAGGGAAAAGCCGAGAAAUAAGUGAUUAUUGCCCUUUUACGCUUUAUCUAUCUUACUUCACCCAUUUGUGCAGGAUUCGAACUCAAGACAUCAAGCAAAGAGAAGAAAAUCGAGAAAAGUACAAAAAGGCAGAAAAAGGAGAUCACUCGCCUCCAACUCGCCAUGGCAAGCAGAAAAGGCGAGCAAUUCCAGAAUGCAACAAAGAUCACACGCCACCAACUCGCAAUGGCGAGUAGAAGGCGAGCUUACUCGCCGUGGCGAAUGGAAGGACUCGCGAGGCGAGUAAGGGCGGUUUAGCCUCUAAAUGCUGACGUGGCACAAACCCAAUGGGGAAGAAACUUCAACUCGCCUUGGCGAAUGAAGCAGCUCGCGAGGCGAGUGAAGGCAGACUCAGAAUUCUAUAAAUAGCCCACUCAACCAUUUCAGAAAAAGAUAGUUUUUUAUAUAGUUUUUAGAUAGUUUUUCUCUUAGUUUUUCACUUGUAAUAUUCUUAGAGAGAGAGAGAUAGGGCUUGUGCUUUAUAGAGUGAGAGUGAUAGAGAGUGGAUUCUUCAUCCUUUGUUGAGACAUCACAAGUUGUAAUGAAUCUUGCUUCUUCAAUUCAUUCUUGCAAGGCUUCCAUGACAAUGAGUAGCUAAAUCUCCUUUGUUGGGAUUAGAGGUGUUAUACCCUGUUUUUGGACCUAAAAAUACUGGGCCCAAUUUCAUUUCAAACUUUGUCAAUUAUCAAAUUUCAACUGCACAGUUCAAUUUGUCUCUGCCUCGCAGUAUUUUCAAUCACAAUUUUACCUAUGUUUUUCUUGCAUAAAACCUUUCAAAAUGUCUUUACUUGUCUUGUAAGUCAUUCAAAAGUGUCUCUGGAUCAUUACAUUGCUUUUUCUACAGUUUAUUCCAAAAUUUGCAAAAAGUCAUACAGAAGGGUAUUUUGGUCAUUUCCUGCAGUGGGACCCAUUUUCAUCCUUGUGACUGUCUCUGAGUCUUUUCAGAUUACUUUUAAACAUUUCAUCAGUAAACUUUGUUAAAAUUCAUUUCAAACUUGCGUCUGAGUCAGUGUCAGGUCAAUUUGAAUCUGUUUAGGUCGUUUUUAGCCCUAGGGGCAUUUUGGUCAUUUCACAUAAAAUUUUGGCAUGGGGAGGUUACUUUGAAGUACCUCAUUUAGGCCAUUGGUUCGUUUUAGUCCGUUUUGUCAAUUUUAUUUUUUUGUUUCGCUUUACGUUGGGUCAAAUUACGUUUUUUAUUCAAUUUUAUUUUUUAAUUGCAUUUUGGUCCCUCAAGUGAGGUCCCAAAAUUGCAUUUCAGUCCAGAAUUUUCUUUUUUUACAUUUCAGUCCUUUUUGUCAAUUGCAGUUUAGUCCCUUAUUUUUUCAAUUUUGCAGAAAGGUCCAAUUUCAUUUUUUGCCCAAGGCCGUGCCAUCUUUUUUUUUCAGGUCCAGGUGUCACUUUCUCAUUUGUUCAGAUACACACAUGUCAAGCUAUAAAAGGUGCACAGUGCCACUCAGAGCCAGAAAAACACACGCCAACUCAUAAACACAUUCCAAAUUUUCUCUUUCUCAGCAACUGAAUCAAAACAGAAAAAAUUCCUCAGAUUCAUCAAGAACACCAAGAACAAAAAACCUAACCGUUUUCCAGAAACAGAAACUACACAAAUUCAAGCUAUUUUUCAUGGAUUCUCAGUGAUUCUUUGAAGAAUCAUCAUCAUUGAAUCAAUAUCUUCGCAAUUCGAAGUGCGAAUUCGCCAAAGGCAAACUCCAGCACCGAUCACGAAGAUACAGUGAGGAAGACGAAGAAGAAAGAAAGAUGAUGAAGGUUUAAACCGGCGAAGAAGGCGAUAAAGCAAGAAACCAGCAGGAACACCGGUUUAUUUCCGGAUUCAAAGCCAAAUCACGUAGCAUCAGAGAUUGAAGUUUUCCAAAGAAUUUCUCCAUUAAAGGUUUCAACCAAAACCUUAGGUAAAACUCAUACUCUUUUUCAAAAGCAAUAUCACUGUUAAACCUAAAAAUCACGCAAGCAAAACAGAUCCAAAGGUUCCAGAAUUCAAAGAAAACUAUAACCGUAAACAUCAAAAUCCAGAUCCGUAAGGAUCAACGUUUUGAAAGCGAAAACAGGCGUCAAAAAGUAAUCAAACGACGAAACGAUGUAGAUCUUUAAAGAUCUAAAUGAUCUCAUUCAAAAAAAUCAAAAAUCAUUUCAAAACCGUAAAAGCUUUUUCAAGAUCUACGUCGUUCAAAGCCGUUUUUGAAAAAACAAAUGCCGGAUUCGUGUUUAGGGUUAAAGGACGAGUCAAACGAAGUAAGAAUCUUUGAAAUCUGGAAAUUUAGGUCACCGGAAACUGCAUGAACUCGCCGGAGAAGAUGAAGUUUCCGGCGGACCUUCAAGGUCUCCGCCGUAGCUUCAUCCUCGCCGGCGGCGAGGUUUAGAGAGAGGUGAGAGGUGAGAGAAGAGAGAAGAGCUAGAGAGAGAAAGGGGAGUGAAAAAUGAAGAAAACCGGUGCCAUGCCUUUUAAAUAAGCUAGUGAACCAGACCGGUCCAAGACCGGUCCAAUCCUGUUGAUUCCAGGCCGUUUGAUCUAGGGUUUCAGGACCCUGGAUCAAUCCUGUGGCUCCUGUGAAUCCGGUUCCUUAGGGUUUUGGGUUGGGCCUUUGUUUCCUUUGGAUCUUUACGUUUUGCUAUUCCUGUGCUUUUCACACCUCUAUUUUUGCUACCUGUACCUAUGUCUUGAUUAAAAUUGUGAUAAAAUUCCUAGAAAAAUUCAUGCAUGUUUCCUGAUAUUUUCUUAGUGUUUUUAUGACAUUUUUGCACAUUAAGGAUCUAUGAAAUUUUGGUAUGGUUAAUUCAUAGCAUUUUAAUUCUCUUUGAAUUAUUUGUUAUGGAUUCUUCUUCAUACAUUUGUCCUUGAUGUGCGAAUAUGUGAUAAAAGCUUUUUGAUGUGUUAAUAUGAGAAAUUUGUGCCUAUAAUUUCGUGUUGUUUUGCUGUUUUGAUUUGGUUCAUGAGUGCUUGAUUUUAUGAGCAAUAUAUGCAUAUUUUGAAAGAUAUAAAAUGCCAAGUUUAUUCUAGAAAAUAUGGCAUGAAACCAUGCUUGCAUGUUUCCAAUAAUUUCAUGCUAUAACUUGAGAUAAAGAAAACUCUUUCAAAAUUUGUUAAAGCAUGAGAAUUAGAGGCCAAGGAUGCUUUAGGUUUCAUACCUAAGUUUUUAGGGUUUAAUGUCAUUUUGUUAACUUUUUGUGUCAUCUUGCAUGAUUUUAUUUCUUAGUGCUUAUUAUGUUUUUUCUUUUGACUAACAAGUUUAUUCCCAUGUUUCAUGCAUCCCAUUUAGCAUUCCCUCCACCCUCUUUAGCCUAGCAUUUAUUUUUGCAAGUUUUAAUUCAUUUAGUGAUGUAAUUUGUCAUCAUUGGUUUGUAGCUUGGCAAAGGGGCCAUAGAAUGUAUUUAGGCAAUUUUUGUAAUAUGGACUAUGGACACUAUGACGCACCGACACGCACACACUCACCUUAGAUGUAUGCAUAGGAUUGUAUGGUUAAAUAAGCGUUUAGGUUUUAAACACCUAGAGAAAAUCCAUCUUUUUUCCAAAAAAAAAACAAUUGAACUUCACUUCAAAAAUUUUCAUAAUAAACAUGAAGUCAACACUUCAUUUCUUUUCCUUUCUUUUUUUUCUUGAGAAAAAUUCAAUUCAUCUUAAUCAUUUAGACUUUCUUUUUUAAUCACUAAUCAAACCUCACUUUUUGCUAAAUCUAAUGCUCAUGAAGCCUCCCAAUCUCCUUCUUCAAAACCAUUUUCAAAACUUAAAAUCAAACAAUUAAAACAAAAACAAGUCUUUUUAGCAAGAACUACGAACGGUUUUGAUCCCUUAAAAGGGUACGUAGGCAAUGAGUCAAAACUCAUCCAAGCCGAAAUAAAAUCAAAAUUCUACUUCUUCUCACCCCCACUCUUAACUAAAUAAACCUCCCAUUUUCAAAAGUAGGUAAAAAUAAAGCGUAAAAAUCGACUUAGGAAAACGGCUCCUAUAGAGGACUAUAGUUACUCCGGGUGCCUAACACCUUCCCGUAGUAAAACCGACCCCCGAACUUAGAAUCUAAGGGUUUUUUCUCAAUUUUUCCCUUCCCAAGAAAAAAGAGAGAUAUCAACGGUCGAAAGGUACAAGUCCAAUUAAUGACUUGGUACCCAAAAACCAUGAUAACAGAAAUGGCGACUUCACUGGGGACUUUUUUAAGCGGGUCGCGCCUAGUUUUCCUUAGUUUAUAUUUAUGUUUUAUUUUAUUGCUUACAUAUGUGAAUAUUUGUUUACUUUCAUUUGACGUGUGGGGUGAGAAUAUCAAAAGUCCUAUACCCGGGCUGAGUGAACUUAUGUUUAGGUAGAGAUAUAAUCGACAAUUCGAUCCGGGGGUUGCCUCGUGUAUUGGAUUAUGCGAUCAAUCUCACAUAGCUGAGGCAUUUUGAAGGUGAUAUUGUCGGCGUGUGUCGUCAUGCUUAGGCACUUCACUUUCAAUUGUUCGACGAAGCUAUGAACCGUAGUUACCAAACCCAUCCUAGCCUUUUUAGGACGUAGUGCGGUGGCUAAAUUGAGUGUUGUCUCAAAACUUUAGUCGUCACGCGAUACUACACUCAAACUAGACCUUCUCACAAAUAAUCGUGGAACGGGUGUCGUCCUGUACUACCAUGAUAUAUGUGAGAGAGGUUGCAGUUUGGGAACUGUGUUAGAACCUUGGUUACUACUAUCCAAAGCCUUAGUUCACCGGACGCCGUGUCCAUCCGUGGCCUUGUUACUUUGAAUCUCAACCCACAUUGUAACUAAACAACACAAUCAUGCAUACAUGCAUUCAUGCAUAAAUAUUUUUCAUGCAUUCAUCGAAGGGUUUAAACAAAUGAGAAUUUUUGUAAAUAAUCACAGGUAUGAAGAAGACUAAGUGCUACAAGUUCAAGGAAGUGGAUUUGGUUAGUUUGAGAGAGUUGGCGCUCAAGGUCAAGAGUCAAACAGGGUUCCGACUCCGGUAUGGGGGAUUGCUUACUUUGCUCCGAACCGAUGUGGACGAGAAGCUAAUGCACACUCUGGUGCAAUUUUAUGAUCCGAGCUUCCGCUGCUUCACUUUCCCGGACUUCCAGUUGGUUCCUACUCUCGAGGCUUACUCCAAUCUAGUGGGGUUACCUAUAGCCGAGAAGACGCCUUUCGCCGGUCCCGGGACUCCUCUUACUCCUCUGGUUGUUGCUAAGGAUCUCUACCUCAAGACUUCCGACGUCUCCAACCAUCUUAUUACCAAGUCUCACAUCCGGGGUUUCACUUCGAAGUAUCUUCUUGAUCAGGCUAAUCUCGGUACCACUCGCCAGGACACACUCGAGGCUAUUCUUGCUUUGCUUAUCUACGGGCUCAUUCUCUUCCCGAACCUUGACAACUUCGUGGACAUGAAUGCUAUCGAGAUCUUUCAUUCUAAGAACCCGGUUCCUACUUUGCUAGCGGACACCUACCACGCCAUUCAUGACAGGACUCUCAAGGGCCGUGGGUAUAUUCUUUGCUGCACAUCUCUUUUGUAUAGGUGGUUUAUUUCGCACCUUCCGAGUUCCUUCCAUGAUAACUCGGAAAAUUGGUCCUACUCUCAGCGGAUUAUGGCUCUCACUCCUGAUGAGGUCGUCUGGCUCACUCCUGCCGCUCAAGUGAAGGAAAUCAUUAUGGGUUGUGGAGACUUUCUCAAUGUACCUCUUCUUGGUACUCGUGGAGGAAUCAACUACAAUCCCGAGCUUGCUAUGAGACAGUUUGGUUUCCCUAUGAAGUCGAAGCCCAUCAAUCUUGCCACAUCUCCAGAGUUCUUCUUCUACACGAAUGCUCCUACCGGACAAAGGAAAGCUUUCGUGGAUGCUUGGUCCAAGGUUCGAAGGAAGAGUGUGAAGCAUCUAGGUGUGAGAUCCGGUGUCGCUCAUGAGGCCUAUACCCAGUGGGUGAUAGAUCGAGCUGAGGAGAUUGGUAUGCCUUAUCCAGCUAUGAGAUAUGUGUCUUCAUCUACCCCAUCUAUGCCUCUACCUUUGCUCCCCGCGACUCAGGAUAUGUAUCAGGAGCAUCUAGCUAUGGAGAGUCGUGAGAAGCAAGUGUGGAAGGCUCGGUACAAUCAAGCCGAGAAUCUAAUCAUGACUUUGGAUGGUAGAGAUGAGCAGAAGACUCAUGAGAAUCUGAUGUUGAAGAAAGAGCUAGCUAAGGCCCGGAGGGAACUAGAAGAGAAAGACGAGCUGCUUAUGAGGGAUUCCAAGAGAGCCCGAGGACGACGAGACUUCUUUGCCAGAUACUGUGAUUCAGAUUCCGAGUCCGAUGAUCCUCCGACUACUUCCUAUGCUUGAGGACUCCAUGUGUUUAUCUUGUUGAAAUUUCAAAGUCUUCCUGUUAAAAAAAAAUACUAUGUAGUUUUGAUUAUUUGCAAAGAUUUCUAAUUGGUUCAAAAUUCCUUCGAUGAAAAAAAAUAAGUCUUUUGCAUUCGCAUUUGCACAUCAUGCAUCAUAUGCAUCAUGCAUUGGUCACAAAGGCUUCCAAGUGCUCACUAUCUCCUGGUUCCUCUGCCACAGUGUGAAAAGUGGCUCGUGCUCAGAGAGUUUACGAACCAGAUAGAAUUGAUCGAACCAGAGAAUACAGAAGAAAGAAAAGGGCUAUGGAAGAAGAGAACGCUCAGCUUCGCACCGAGUUGGCCUCUCUAAAGGAGGAAUUGGCUAAAGCUAAUGACGUCAUGACUGCUCUACUAGCUGCUCAAGAGCAAUCAGCUACAGCUAUCCCUACAACCACAGCUGCACCAGUAACUACAAGCGUGCUCCCUACCACUUCUGCAGACAACCGCUUUACUAUGCCAGUGGGGUUUCCGUAUGGGCUUCCACCGUUCUUCACUCCCGUUGCUACAGCAAGCACCUCGGGCACUGCUAACAAUGUUCUGAUCCCUGCAACAAAUGCCGCCUCCAUCAUUGCUACUUUGCCACAAACAACAGCAGCUGUCACUGAGCCUCUGGUACACACUCUGCCUCAAGGUAUUAACGUCAACACACAGCACAGAAGCAUCCCCGUAACCAAGACUAUGGAAGAGAUGAUGGAGGAACUUGCUAAAGAACUCCGUCACGAGAUCCAGGCCAAUCGAGGGAGUGCAAACUCUGUCAAAACUCAAGACCUUUGCUUAGUGUCAAAAGUGGAUGUUCCUAAAAAGUUCAAGAUUCCGGACUUCGACCGGUACAACGGGCUAACUUGUCCUCAAAAUCACAUCAUCAAAUACGUCCGGAAGAUGGGCAAUUACAAAGACAAUGAUUCCCUUAUGAUCCACUGUUUUCAGGAUAGUCUGAUGGAGGAUGCCGCAGAGUGGUAUACUAGUUUGAGUAAGAAUGACAUCCAUACCUUUGAUGAGUUAGCCACCGCUUUCAAGAGCCAUUAUGGGUUUAACACUCGACUGAGGCCAAAUAGGGAGUUUCUCAGGUCCCUAUCUCAGAAGAAGGAGGAAAGUUUCCGUGAAUAUGCGCAAAGGUGGAGAGGGGCGGCUGCCCGUAUCACUCCUGCUUUAGAUGAGGAAGAAAUGACCCAGACGUUCUUAAAAACGUUGAAGAAAGAUUAUGUUGAGAGGAUGAUCAUCGCUGCCCCGAACAACUUUUCGGAGAUGGUCACCAUGGGAACCCGUCUUGAGGAAGCCGUAAGGGAUGGAAUCAUCGUGUUUGAGAAAGCUGAAUCCUCUGUGAAUGCGUCGAAGAGAUAUGGUAAUGGACACCACAAAAAGAAAGAAACGGAAGUGGGGAUGGUGUCAGCUGGAGCCGGGCAAUCAAUGGCUACUGUUGCUCCUAUCAAUGCAGCUCAAAUGCCUCCGUCAUACCCAUAUAUGCCGUAUUCUCAGCAUCCGUUCUUCCCACCGUUUUAUCAUCAGUACCCUUUGCCGCCGGGCCAGCCUCAAGUGCCCGUCAAUGCAAUUGCCCAACAGAUGAAACAACAGAUGCCGGUUCAACAACAACAACAAAAUCAGCAAGCCAGGCCAACCUUCCCUCCUAUACCAAUGUUGUAUGCAGAACUUCUUCCAACUCUACUCCAGAGAGGUCAUUGUACAACUAGACAGGGUAAGCCCCCACCUGAUCCGUUGCCUCCAAGGUUCAGGUCUGAUCUCAAAUGUGACUUUCAUCAAGGUGCCUUGGGUCAUGACGUCGAGGGGUGUUAUGCUUUGAAGUAUAUCGUGAAGAAGCUCAUCGAUCAAGGGAAGCUGACUUUUGAGAAUAAUGUCCCACAUGUCCUCGACAAUCCGCUACCAAAUCAUGCCGCUGUGAAUAUGAUCGAAGUGUGUGAAGAAGCUCCGAGACUUGAUGUCCGCAACGUCGCAACUCCUCUGGUACCUCUACACAUCAAGCUGUGCAAAGCUUCUCUGUUCAAUCAUGAUCAUGCCAAGUGUCUGGGAUGUCUCCGUGAUCCUUUGGGUUGCCACGCUGUUCAAGACGACAUUCAAAGCUUGAUGAAUGAUAAUCUUCUGACUGUCAGUGAUGUUUGCGUGAUUGUGCCAGUUUUUCACGAUCCACCUGUCAAGAGUGUAACUUUGAAGAAGAAUGCUGAGCCUUUGGUGAUAAGGUUGCCAGGACCAAUUCCUUAUGUUUCGGACAAGGCAGUGCCAUACAAGUACAAUGCUACUAUGAUAGAAAAUGGAGUAGAGGUGCCUCUAGCCUCCUUUGCCACAGUAAGCAAUAUUGCCGAAGGGACUUCUGCAGCACUAAGAAGCGGGAAGGUCCGUCCGCCGUUAUUUCAGAAGAAAGUAGCUACACCGACCAUUCCACCAGUUGAAGAAGCAACUCCAACCGUUGUUUCACCCAUUGCUACAGAUGUGAACCAGCCAGGCAAAUCUAUAGAGGAUUCAAAUUUAGAUGAGAUUCUGAGGAUAAUAAAGAGGAGCGACUACAAGAUCGUUGAUCAGUUGCUGCAGACUCCUUCAAAGAUAUCUGUAUUGUCGUUACUCUUGAGCUCCGAGGCUCACAGGAAUACCUUGUUAAAAGUGCUGGAGCAGGCUUAUGUUGACCACGAAGUUACGGUAGAUCGUUUCGGUGGCAUAGUGGGAAAUAUUACUGCUUGUAACAAUCUCUGGUUUAGUGAAGAAGAGCUGCCGGAAGUGGGAAAGAGUCACAAUCUGGCUUUGCACAUCUCGGUGAAAUGUAAAUCAGACAUGAUAUCAAAUGUGUUGGUGGAUACUGGUUCCUCUCUCAAUGUAAUGCCUAAGACAACCCUAGAUCAGUUGAGCUACCGUGGGACCCCGUUGAGGAGAAGUACUUUCUUGGUCAAAGCUUUUGAUGGAUCUCGAAAGAAUGUGCUGGGAGAGAUAGACUUGCCGAUAACCAUUGGCCCUGAGAAUUUCUUGGUUACUUUCCAAGUGAUGGACAUUAAUGCAUCCUACAGUUGCCUGCUGGGAAGACCGUGGAUACACGAUGCAGGUGCGGUUACUUCCACCUUACAUCAGAAGUUGAAAUUUGUGAAGAAUGGAAAACUCGUUACAAUCCAUGGUGAAGAAGCAUACUUAGUCAGCCAAUUGUCUUCUUUUUCUUGUAUUGAAGCAGGGUCUGCUGAAGGGACUGCUUUCCAAGGUUUGACCAUUGAAGGUGCAGAGUCUAAGGAAGCUGGGGCUGCUAUGGCUUCAUUAAAGGAUGCUCAGAGAGCCAUCCAAGAAGGUCAGACUGCCGGCUGGGGCAAGGUGAUACAGCUCUGUGAGAACAAGCGUAAAGAAGGUCUCGGGUUCUCCCCGUCAUCAAGGGUUUCCUCGGGAGUCUUCCACAGUGCAGGGUUUGUUAAUGCUAUCUCUGAAGAAGCCACUGGAUCUGGUCUCAGACCUGCAUUUGUUACACCAGGAGGCAUUACGACAAAUUGGGAUGCCAUUGACAUUCCUUCAAUCAUGCAUGUUUCUGAGUAAUGUGUCUUGUUGCUUUAAUGCUUUGUUUUCAAAAUAACAAUCCUCUCGCUCUGCCCAAAGCGAGAGUGAUAUUUUCUGUAAGGGCAUGUUUGUUUCGGCAUUGCCGUUGAUUAAUAAAAUUUUGUCGUUUCUUCCACGACUAUUUUUUUUUAGUGCUUUUUCCCUUGGAAACAAUGGUAAUGCCAGAAAAAAAAACCAAAACGUCUGUAUUUUCUUAUUAAUUUCAAAAAUCUGCAUGAAAAAAAAAAAAAAAAAAACUCUUUCUAAAAUCAUCCAAUCAUUAUAUGCAGGUUGAACCAUAAUAAACCCGUUGAACACAGUAAUCCUACGGUUCCUCCAAGUUUUGAAUUCCCUGUGUAUGAAGCCGAAGAUGAGGAAGGUGAUGACAUACCAUAUGAGAUCACUCGGUUACUUGAGCAAGAAGAGAAAGCCAUUCAGUCUCACCAGGAAGAGAUCGAGCUUAUCAACAUAGGUACCGAGGAAAACAAGCGAGAAAUCAAGAUUGGUGCCACUCUAGAGGAAGGGGUUAAACAGAAGAUCAUCCAGCUCCUCCGGGAAUAUCCGGAUAUUUUUGCAUGGUCCUAUGAAGAUAUGCCAGGUCUAGACCCUAUGAUCGUGGAGCAUCGGAUCCCUACCAAGCCUGAAUGUCCUCCCGUCAGGCAGAAAUUGAGAAGGACUCAUCCUGAUAUGGCUCUCAAGAUCAAGAAUGAAGUUCAAAAGCAGAUUGAUGCGGGUUUCCUCAUGACAGUUGAGUAUCCCGAAUGGGUUGCCAAUAUUGUGCCCGUGCCAAAGAAGGAUGGUAAAGUCCGGAUGUGUGUUGACUUCAGAGACCUGAACAAGGCCAGUCCAAAAGACAACUUUCCAUUACCUCAUAUUGAUGUGCUUGUUGAUAAUACUGCUCAAUCUAAGGUGUUUUCCUUCAUGGACGGUUUUUCCGGUUAUAAUCAAAUCAAGAUGUCUCCUGAAGAUAGGGAAAAGACAUCUUUUAUCACUCCAUGGGGUACUUUCUGCUACAAGGUGAUGCCGUUCGGCCUAAUCAAUGCUGGUGCUACCUACCAAAGGGGAAUGACCACUCUGUUUCAUGACAUGAUUCACAAGGAAGUUGAGGUAUAUGUGGAUGACAUGAUUGUGAAGUCAGCAGAUGAGGAGCAGCAUGUUGAAUAUUUAACAAAGAUGUUUGAAAGGUUGAGAAAAUACAAGCUGCGAUUGAAUCCCAACAAAUGUACAUUCGGUGUCAGGUCCGGAAAGUUAUUAGGCUUCAUUGUCAGCCAAAAGGGCAUUGAAGUCGAUCCUGAUAAAGUCCGGGCCAUCCGAGAAAUGCCAGCUCCACAGACAGAGAAGCAAGUCAGAGGUUUCUUGGGACGUUUGAAUUACAUCUCCCGAUUCAUAUCUCAUAUGACCGCAACCUGCGGGCCGAUCUUUAAGCUGCUUAGAAAGAACCAGCCUAUUGUAUGGAAUGAUGAAUGCCAAGAAGCUUUUGAUAGCAUCAAGAAUUACCUGCUGGAACCACCUAUCCUUGUCCCACCCGUGGAAGGAAGGCCUUUGAUUAUGUAUUUGGCAGUGUUUGAUGAAUCCAUGGGAUGCGUGCUUGGUCAACAAGAUGAAACUGGAAAGAAAGAGCAUGCUAUCUACUAUCUAAGCAAGAAGUUCACCGAUUGUGAAACUCGGUAUACAAUGCUUGAGAAGACUUGUUGUGCUUUAGCUUGGGCUACCAAACGCCUGCGUCAUUAUUUGGUGAAUCAUACAACUUGGUUGAUAUCCAGAAUGGAUCCGAUAAAGUAUAUCUUUGAGAAGGCUGCUGUUACUGGAAAGAUUGCACGCUGGCAGAUGCUUUUGUCAGAAUAUGAUAUUGUGUUCAAAACUCAAAAGGCAAUCAAAGGCAGCAUUCUUGCCGAUCACCUUGCUUAUCAACCUCUUGACGAUUACCAACCAAUUGAAUUCGACUUCCCUGAUGAAGAGAUCAUGUAUUUGAAAUCCAAAGACUGCGAAGAACCGUUGAUUAAUGAAGGUCCAGAUCCCGAUAGCAAGUGGGGUUUAGUCUUUGACGGUGCUGUCAAUGCUUAUGGCAAGGGAAUUGGGGCAGUCAUUGUAUCCCCGCAGGGGCAUCACAUUCCUUUUACCACCAGAAUCUUGUUCGAAUGUACCAACAAUAUGGCGGAGUAUGAAGCAUGUAUCUUUGGGAUCGAGGAAGCAAUUGACAUGAGAAUCAAACACCUCGACAUCUAUGGAGAUUCUGCGCUCAUCAUCAAUCAGAUAAAGGGUGAAUGGGAGACCCACCAUGCUAAUUUGAUUCCUUAUCGUGAUUAUGCGAGACGUUUGCUGACAUAUUUUACAAAGGUUGAGCUGCACCAUAUUCCUCGUGAUGAGAACCAAAUGGCUGAUGCUCUUGCUACUCUAUCCUCCAUGUUUCGAGUAAACCAUUGGAAUGAUGUGCCAUUAAUCAAAGUGCAACGCCUUGAAAGACCUUCGCAUGUGUUUGCUAUUGGGGAUGUGAUCGAUCAGGCUGGUGAGAAUGUGGUUGACUAUAGACCCUGGUACUACGACAUCAAACAGUUCUUGCUGAGCCGUGAGUAUCCGCCGGGUGCUUCCAAACAAGACAAGAAGACCUUGAGAAGAUUGGCCGGUAGAUUCCUGUUAGAUGGAAAUAUUCUGUACAAGAGGAACUAUGACAUGGUAUUGUUAAGGUGUGUUGAUGAACAUGAAGCAGAGCAGUUAAUGCAUGAUGUACAUGACGGUACCUUCGGGACCCAUGCUACAGGGCAUACUAUGUCAAGGAAGUUGUUACGAGCAGGUUACUACUGGAUGGCCAUGGAGCAUGAUUGCUACCAGCACGCCAGAAAGUGCCACAAAUGUCAAAUCUAUGCUGAUAAGAUUCAUGUGCCUCCGCACGCCCUCAAUGUUAUGUCAUCCCCAUGGCCGUUCUCAAUGUGGGGCAUCGACAUGAUUGGAAGAAUUGAACCGAAAGCUUCAAAUGGCCAUCGUUUCAUCUUAGUGGCAAUUGACUACUUUACCAAAUGGGUUGAAGCGGCAUCUUAUACCAAUGUGACUAAGCAAGUGGUAGCUAAGUUUAUCAAGAACAACAUCAUCUGUCGAUAUGGUGUUCCCAGCAAAAUUAUUACCGACAACGGUACCAACCUGAACAACAAUGUGGUGCAAGCUCUUUGUGAAGAAUUCAAAAUUGAGCAUCAUAACUCUUCUCCUUAUAGACCUCAGAUGAAUGGUGCAGUUGAGGCCGCCAACAAGAAUAUCAAGAGAAUCGUCCAGAAGAUGGUAACUACUUACAAGGACUGGCAUGAGAUGUUACCCUAUGCUCUGCAUGGCUACCGCACUACCGUGCGCAGUUCAACCGGGGCAACUCCUUUCUCUCUUGUAUAUGGUAUGGAAGCAGUUCUUCCUUUGGAAGUGGAGAUCCCAUCUCUCCGUGUGAUCAUGGAAGCAAAGUUAUCCGAGGCUGAAUGGUGCCAAAGCCGGUAUGAUCAGUUGAAUUUGAUUGAGGAAAAACGUAUGGAUGCCAUGGCUCGUGGACAGUCAUAUCAAGCAAGAAUGAAGACUGCCUUUGACAAGAAAGUCCAUCCUCGAGAAUUCAAGGUAGGGGAACUUGUAUUGAAAAGGAGGAUAAGCCAGCAACCCGACCCAAGGGGCAAGUGGACGCCUAACUAUGAAGGUCCUUAUGUUGUCAAGAAGGCCUUCUCCGGUGGUGCUUUAAUCCUUACACACAUGGAUGGUAUAGAACUUCCAAAUCCAGUGAAUGCCGAUAUAGUCAAGAAAUACUUUGCCUAGAAAUAUGAAAAGAACAGCGUGGUAGGUCGAAAACCCGAAAGGGCGGCCUAGGCAAAAAUGCGCUUCCCGGUGGAUCGAAAACCCGAAAGGGCGGUCCAGGCAAAAAUAAGGGACAAAAAACAAAUAUGAAAAAGCUCGCUGAGAUUGUUCGCAACUCAGGCAAAAAUGAGCGUCUCGAUGAAUCGAAAACCCGGAAGGGCGGUUCAUGCAAAAAUGAGAUUGAAGCAAAAGGCAAGUAACUAUAUCUGGCUAACCACCGUCCCCUUGGGGCAUCUGCAGCUGUUAAUGACCAUCUUCAUCAAAAGCUCCUAUGCUUGCGAAUUCAAAGUUUCUAGGAAAUGUCAUGAUUACUGUGUUCAAUGUAUCACCAACCAAUAAAAUUACCAUUUUCCAAGCUUUGUAAAUCCGUGGAGUCACGCCUUCGGCUGACCACCACUCUUAUACAUCAAAUUGAGCCUGUGCUUUUGUUUAAAAUUCUAUUUUCUUCUACUUUCAAAGCUAUAUACAAAACAUUUUCUUUCUAUUUUGAUAAUGGCAAUGCUUGAAACAAACAUUUUUGAAAACUGAAAACUUUUUGUUUAUUUUGAAAAGCAAACCUGAGCAACAGGGUACAUUCAAAUGAAACAUGCAUGAGCGAGAGUAUGUUGGUGUCUAUUUCAAUAUAUGUUACCAGCAGAUUCUCCUCCAAGAUAAUCUGUGGUCAAUGGCAAGAAUGAAAAAAACAGAAUGAAAAUGCAUGAAAAUAAAUGAGCUCGCUAAGUUGAAAACCCGAAAGGGCGGCUUAGGCAAAAAUGAGCACCCCGCUGGAUUGACAACCCGAAAGGGCAGUUCAGGCAAAAAUGGGGCAUUGAAAAGAAUUUAUUUCCCCGGUGGACCGAAAACCCGAAAGGGCGAUCCAGGCAAAAAUGGGAUGCAAAAAAUGAUGAAUGAAAAUGAGAAUAUAACAUGCAAAAGCAUUGACCACAGAUGCAAUGUCUACAACAUACCCAGCGCUGAAAUGCCCAGCACAACGGCGUUUUCCCCAGUCGGGUCUUCCAAGAUUCUAUCCCCAGCAAGAUGCAUAGCUACCUGCCCUCAGCCAUGGUUCCGAUACGUCUCCCAACGACGUCAUCCCCAAAGAGGAUUUCCAAGAAUGUGUAAUAUAGCACGAGCCACUACGUGCCCAAUACUCUGAUGUCUUGUCUUCCCCGUGAAGUCGUGCCUACAAAAUGCCAACAGUCAUGCAUUACAAGCAUUCAUACAUGCAUAAUCAUGCAUAUUACGUACCCAUGCAUUUAAUGAAAUUGUUAUAUCAUCCAUGCAUAUUGCAUUUCCAAUGUCAACAUCAGUCUCAAUUCAAUACUCAUGUCAGGUUCUCUGUCAAAACCUUGUGAGCCAAUAAUACCGGUCAAUUUCUGCCUUUCAAUUCAAAUCGAUGUCAAGUCAACCUCAAUCUAUAUUUUGUCAACAAACCAAUCCCCAGUGAAUAUGUUUCUAUUUGGUCAAGUGACUAGUUCAAGUCCAAGAACAGCUUGUACCUAUCAAUUUGCUUAUGUUAUCGGUCGAGUGCCCAGCUCAAUCCAAGAGCAGCUUGUACCUAUCAAUAUGUUUCCGUUUGGUCAAGUGGCUAGCUCAAUCCAAGAGCAGCUUGUACCUGUCUAUCUGUUUCUGCCCGGUGGAGUAACCAGUUCGCAUCCAAGAACAAGCUCGCACCUGUCUAUUUGCCUUGCUUUCAGUCGAGUCACCAGUUCGAAUCCGUAAGAACAACUUGUAAUUGUCAGUUUUCUCUUUCUUCCAGUCGGGUUACCAGUUCGAAUCCAUAAGAACAACUCGCACUUUCCAAUAUCCCCAAGUGAGUCACCAGUUCGAAUCCAUAAGAACAACUCAUGUUGGUCCAGUAACCUCUAUCCCCUGUGAAGUGACCAGUUCGAAUCCAUAAGAACAACUCGCAGUUGUCUGUUUGUUUCAUCCCCGGUCAAGUGGCUAGUUCGAAUCCAAGAACAGCUUGUACCUGUCCAACUUGUUUCUAGUUUCCCGUUACUCUGCUAUUCACUAUCUUUGUCAAUGUCUACCAAUCCCGCAAUGGAUACGACAUAUUUUGUUAAUUCCAAUCCCCAUGAAGUCUUGCAUUCAUAAUCCAAGUGAUGCAUGGCAUGCAUAUUAUUUGAAAAUGGGUAGGCGUAUUUUUACGUCCAAAUACAGUGCAAAUGCUAAUAUUUAAGUACCUUCGUCCUGUCAAGCCAAAGACUCCAUCUCUUGACUCUCCAGACAAAGAAACUUAAAUAGGGGCAGCUGUUAUACCCUGUUUUUGGACCUAAAAAUACUGGGCCCAAUUUCAUUUCAAACUUUGUCAAUUAUCAGAUUUCAACUGCACAGUUCAAUUUGUCUCUGCCUCGCAGUAUUUUCAAUCACAAUUUUACCUAUGUUUUUCUUGCAUAAAACCUUUCAAAAUGUCUUUACUUGUCUUGUAAGUCAUUCAAAAGUGUCUCUGGAUCAUUACAUUGCUUUUUCUACAGUUUAUUCCAAAAUUUGCAAAAAGUCAUACAGAAGGGUAUUUUGGUCAUUUCCUGCAGUGGGACCCAUUUUCAUCCUUGUGACUGUCUCUGAGUCUUUUCAGAUUACUUUUAAACAUUUCAUCAGUAAACUUUGUUAAAAUUCAUUUCAAACUUGCGUCUGAGUCAGUGUCAGGUCAAUUUGAAUCUGUUUAGGUCGUUUUUAGCCCUAGGGGCAUUUUGGUCAUUUCACAUAAAAUUUUGGCAUGGGGAGGUUACUUUGAAGUACCUCAUUUAGGCCAUUGGUUCGUUUUAGUCCGUUUUGUCAAUUUUAUUUUUUUGUUUCGCUUUACGUUGGGUCAAAUUACGUUUUUUAUUCAAUUUUAUUUUUUAAUUGCAUUUUGGUCCCUCAAGUGAGGUCCCAAAAUUGCAUUUCAGUCCAGAAUUUUCUUUUUUUACAUUUCAGUCCUUUUUGUCAAUUGCAGUUUAGUCCCUUAUUUUUUCAAUUUUGCAGAAAGGUCCAAUUUCAUUUUUUGCCCAAGGCCGUGCCAUCUUUUUUUUUCAGGUCCAGGUGUCACUUUCUCAUUUGUUCAGAUACACACAUGUCAAGCUAUAAAAGGUGCACAGUGCCACUCAGAGCCAGAAAAACACACGCCAACUCAUAAACACAUUCCAAAUUUUCUCUUUCUCAGCAACUGAAUCAAAACAGAAAAAAUUCCUCAGAUUCAUCAAGAACACCAAGAACAAAAAACCUAACCGUUUUCCAGAAACAGAAACUACACAAAUUCAAGCUAUUUUUCAUGGAUUCUCAGUGAUUCUUUGAAGAAUCAUCAUCAUUGAAUCAAUAUCUUCGCAAUUCGAAGUGCGAAUUCGCCAAAGGCAAACUCCAGCACCGAUCACGAAGAUACAGUGAGGAAGACGAAGAAGAAAGAAAGAUGAUGAAGGUUUAAACCGGCGAAGAAGGCGAUAAAGCAAGAAACCAGCAGGAACACCGGUUUAUUUCCGGAUUCAAAGCCAAAUCACGUAGCAUCAGAGAUUGAAGUUUUCCAAAGAAUUUCUCCAUUAAAGGUUUCAACCAAAACCUUAGGUAAAACUCAUACUCUUUUUCAAAAGCAAUAUCACUGUUAAACCUAAAAAUCACGCAAGCAAAACAGAUCCAAAGGUUCCAGAAUUCAAAGAAAACUAUAACCGUAAACAUCAAAAUCCAGAUCCGUAAGGAUCAACGUUUUGAAAGCGAAAACAGGCGUCAAAAAGUAAUCAAACGACGAAACGAUGUAGAUCUUUAAAGAUCUAAAUGAUCUCAUUCAAAAAAAUCAAAAAUCAUUUCAAAACCGUAAAAGCUUUUUCAAGAUCUACGUCGUUCAAAGCCGUUUUUGAAAAAACAAAUGCCGGAUUCGUGUUUAGGGUUAAAGGACGAGUCAAACGAAGUAAGAAUCUUUGAAAUCUGGAAAUUUAGGUCACCGAAAACUGCAUGAACUCGCCGGAGAAGAUGAAGUUUCCGGCGGACCUUCAAGGUCUCCGCCGUAGCUUCAUCCUCGCCGGCGGCGAGGUUUAGAGAGAGGUGAGAGGUGAGAGAAGAGAGAAGAGCUAGAGAGAGAAAGGGGAGUGAAAAAUGAAGAAAACCGGUGCCAUGCCUUUUAAAUAAGCUAGUGAACCAGACCGGUCCAAGACCGGUCCAAUCCUGUUGAUUCCAGGCCGUUUGAUCUAGGGUUUCAGGACCCUGGAUCAAUCUUGUGGCUCCUGUGAAUCCGGUUCCUUAGGGUUUUGGGUUGGGCCUUUGUUUCCUUUGGAUCUUUACGUUUUGCUAUUCCUGUGCUUUUCACACCUCUAUUUUUGCUACCUGUACCUAUGUCUUGAUUAAAAUUGUGAUAAAAUUCCUAGAAAAAUUCAUGCAUGUUUCCUGAUAUUUUCUUAGUGUUUUUAUGACAUUUUUGCACAUUAAGGAUCUAUGAAAUUUUGGUAUGGUUAAUUCAUAGCAUUUUAAUUCUCUUUGAAUUAUUUGUUAUGGAUUCUUCUUCAUACAUUUGUCCUUGAUGUGCGAAUAUGUGAUAAAAGCUUUUUGAUGUGUUAAUAUGAGAAAUUUGUGCCUAUAAUUUCGUGUUGUUUUGCUGUUUUGAUUUGGUUCAUGAGUGCUUGAUUUUAUGAGCAAUAUAUGCAUAUUUUGAAAGAUAUAAAAUGCCAAGUUUAUUCUAGAAAAUAUGGCAUGAAACCAUGCUUGCAUGUUUCCAAUAAUUUCAUGCUAUAACUUGAGAUAAAGAAAACUCUUUCAAAAUUUGUUAAAGCAUGAGAAUUAGAGGCCAAGGAUGCUUUAGGUUUCAUACCUAAGUUUUUAGGGUUUAAUGUCAUUUUGUUAACUUUUUGUGUCAUCUUGCAUGAUUUUAUUUCUUAGUGCUUAUUAUGUUUUUUCUUUUGACUAACAAGUUUAUUCCCAUGUUUCAUGCAUCCCAUUUAGCAUUCCCUCCACCCUCUUUAGCCUAGCAUUUAUUUUUGCAAGUUUUAAUUCAUUUAGUGAUGUAAUUUGUCAUCAUUGGUUUGUAGCUUGGCAAAGGGGCCAUAGAAUGUAUUUAGGCAAUUUUUGUAAUAUGGACUAUGGACACUAUGACGCACCGACACGCACACACUCACCUUAGAUGUAUGCAUAGGAUUGUAUGGUUAAAUAAGCGUUUAGGUUUUAAACACCUAGAGAAAAUCCAUCUUUUUUCCAAAAAAAAAACAAUUGAACUUCACUUCAAAAAUUUUCAUAAUAAACAUGAAGUCAACACUUCAUUUCUUUUCCUUUCUUUUUUUUCUUGAGAAAAAUUCAAUUCAUCUUAAUCAUUUAGACUUUCUUUUUUAAUCACUAAUCAAACCUCACUUUUUGCUAAAUCUAAUGCUCAUGAAGCCUCCCAAUCUCCUUCUUCAAAACCAUUUUCAAAACUUAAAAUCAAACAAUUAAAACAAAAACAAGUCUUUUUAGCAAGAACUACGAACGGUUUUGAUCCCUUAAAAGGGUACGUAGGCAAUGAGUCAAAACUCAUCCAAGCCGAAAUAAAAUCAAAAUUCUACUUCUUCUCACCCCCACUCUUAACUAAAUAAACCUCCCAUUUUCAAAAGUAGGUAAAAAUAAAGCGUAAAAAUCGACUUAGGAAAACGGCUCCUAUAGAGGACUAUAGUUACUCCGGGUGCCUAACACCUUCCCGUAGUAAAACCGACCCCCGAACUUAGAAUCUAAGGGUUUUUUCUCAAUUUUUCCCUUCCCAAGAAAAAAGAGAGAUAUCAACGGUCGAAAGGUACAAGUCCAAUUAAUGACUUGGUACCCAAAAACCAUGAUAACAAGAGGUACUUGAUCAUAGUUUAACAUGUAAUCGUUUGAUCUAUAAAUAUAUGGUUCUAGCAUUUGAAUUGAUAUUGAGGUUAUUCUUGCACUUUAAUCUUUAUCUUUGAUUUAAUUGUGAUUGAGAAAUACUUUUGAAUCUAGGUUUAGAAUAACCAUCUAUCAAAACAUAGUUUCUAGACAUGGAAUCGAUGUUUUGAUAAUCACCUUGAGUAUCCAAACCUAAAGCUUUCUUAUCAUUUAAUAGAUUGAGAAAUCAUCGAUUGAACGAUAAGAUCGACUCUUGAAUCAUUCAAUAGUUUGAGACAUCGACCAUUGAAUGAUACAAUUGAUUUCACAAUAUUGUUUGGACACGAAUGGUGUUGUCGAGGGAUACGUGAUAAUAUCAAAGAAAAGCUAGAAUCCAUGUAUGAUCAUUAGGUUACGUGCGACGCUCGAUCAAGGAACUCUAAUCCUAACAAGUUUUACGCCCUAUUAAUCUCAAUUGUAUCAUUUGCAAUUCAGUUACUAAAACAAACAAUCAACUAUCGUUUAACUUGAAAUGAUAUUUGGUGUCGAACGGUCCGCGAUAUCGCACUAGUCCCUGAGGAGACGAUAUAAAUACUUACAAUUGUUUGAUGCAAAAAUACUACAUCAGCCCCUUGGUUCCAACAACGAGUUAGAUCACGACGACAAGCAUCCAUCUCCUCUUUUAGACCAUUGUGAUUCACUUUGUUCCAUGUGCUAAGCUCUUAUGCACAAUGAUCUAGUUUUUCAACAAUCAACAAACCUGCACUAGAAACCCAGCUAUCAGAAACAACAUCAUGAAUACAUGGUUCAACACACCAAGCAUUCUCAAAUUUAAAAUUUCUUUUAGGUAUCCAGACACGAGCAUUCGGUAUCCCUAUUUAAUAAAAUUGGAUAAUGAUCAGAAGUUGAAGCCACUAAAUUCUCUUGCUUGGCAUUAGGAUACAACUAGAACCACUCUUCAUUUGCAAGAGCACGGUCCGAUCUUUCUUUAACUGCUCUAGGAGUACCUGAACUCUUAAACUAGGUAAAAGAAUACCCCCUCCUUUAACAUAUCAAUUAAACCUGCAUAAAAAACAACCUAUCUUAAAUCGUUAAUCAACCACCUAGCACGCUUAAAGCCCCCUCACUUUUCAUAGAUAUCCAAAAUAUCAUUAAAAUCACCAAGGAUACACCAUUGAAGCGAAGUACCACAAGAUAAAUUUCUCAAAAAAUCCCAAGAAUUGCGUCUUCGACUCCCUUAUAGGAAUCCAUAAAAACUUGUAAAUGCCAUCUCCCUUGACUAGGAUCACGGACUUCAACAUUAAUAUAAUUUUCAGAAUAAUUUAUCACUCUACAGUUAAAAGAGUGUCUCCAAAGUAGUGCUAAGACACCACUUCGACCAUUACUAAUAACAGUUAAACAUUUAUCAAAAUCAAGCAAAUAACGGAAUUCUUCAGUUUUAUUGGCAUGGAUUAAAGUCUCACUGAGAAAAAGAGCAUCCGACUUAUAAUAGGUACUAGGUAUUUUAGGUUAAGAACUACACUCAGGUUCUCUAGGCCUCGGCAAUUCCAUCCUAUAAGACUCAUUCCCCUCAACAAUAUUCAACAAAGACAUGACAGUAUCAUCAUUAACGGUAUCUGUAGCGAAAACUCUCUCCUUUUUCUUCAAGUACAAUUUGAUACAAACCUUCCAACAUAUCAAACUCAUGACACAUCAAUUUCAUCAAACACAGGUUAUUCAUAGUAUUCACCACCAAAUGCAAUCCCCAAAACCACUAAUUGUAUCAAGAAAGAACCGACAACAAUUUGAUCUCUAAUAAAAUGUGUAAUUAAAAGGAUUAUACCUUGUAUGAAAAUAUAGAUGAUGGAAAUUGCAACAAGACAAAGCACAUGAUCGAGAAGGCAAAGGAAUCAGCGUCAUCUUUAUCUCUGGAAAAGGAGUAAUAUCGAAGGAAAUAGAACAACGCAACAACAAACACGUUCAGGGGAGACUAUUUCUCAUCGAACGACGGCAAAAUCCUUCACAAAGGGAGCGGCGGCGCUAACCCUAGAAGCGACGGCAAUUUCUGUUAUUAUUCUUAAUGUCAAAAAAUAAUUUGGUUCAAAUCAUUGAUCAUGAAGGCCUGUGAUGGGCGUGUAUUAUUCAUUUCAAUGACCUCCAUGUUCAAUGGAGACUCAAAUGUCGGCUGUUAACAUAUAUAAAUAAGUAAUAUACAUUAACUUAUUUUACACGAACAUCAUUACUAGACGUACAAUACUUGGCAUUUUUACUAGCAAUAAACUUGUUACACAACAUAAUAUUGUUCUUGAAACUAUUCAAGCUUAGCAUCAUUCAAACGAUAACUCGGUAUUGCGUGCAAAUGCUGAGCUCUUGGUAUAGUGAGUCCAAAUUUCUCCUCCAUAUUCAAAUUGGAGGGACUAAUAUUAUGUGGAAGUUCCCAGUUAAAACAAUGGAUAAAUUGAGCUAUAACCAAUUUAACAGUAAUUAAACCCAAUUGAAUUCCAGGACAACGCCUACGACCAGAACCAAAUGGUAUAGAUUCAAACUCUUGUCCAAGAUAAUUCAUUUUUUUCUCUACAAAUCUCUCUGGGUAAAAUUCUUUAGCAUUUUCUGACCAAACAUUAGGAUCUCUCCCUAUUGCCCAUGCAUUUACUAUAAGUCGUGUCUUUUCCUUUAUAAAAUAACCAUCAAUUGUUGUGCUCUCUCUAGAUUCACGAGGGACUAGUAACGGUGCUACGGGGUAAAGUCUUAAGGUCUCAUCAACCACCAUAUCUAAAUAAUUCAACUUCUUUAGAUCCUUCUCGUUAACCAUUCUUUUAUUUCCUACUUCAUUUUGUAUCUCAUCUUGAAGCUUUUUCAUCACUCUUGGAUGUCUUAAAAGUUCAGAUAAAGCCCAUUCAAUCGAGGUAGCAGAUGUAUCAAUUGCUGCCACUAUCAUGUCGAGCAAAAUAGCCUUGAUGUUAGUUCGAUCAAUGACGAGAUUUUGUUCACCCUCAAUAUCAAUGGUUUGGUGCAUAAUUGAAAGAAGUAUGUCUACAAAAUCUUUUUGAGUUUUGUUUACAUUAGCAGCUUGUUCAUGUUCUGUUAAUAUCACCUCUAGCACCUCAUCAAGUGCUUUACUGACUUUCUUGCAAGAUUUUGUUAAUCCCUAACAAUGAGUUAAAACAUAAAAUAUCAAUUACUAAAUGAAUAUUUUCAUUGUACUUAACAAAACCAUUAGAGCAUCCUUAAAAAAAAUAAAAAAUAAAACCAUUAGAGCAUGUUUUCUUAAAAGAGGAUCAAUGCUAUCCAUUUUUCUCCUUCAUGACUAGAACUCAUAGCCCUAUGAAUAUAGUUGAAGCAUCUUACCAACUAAACUGCACUUAGAAAAUCGAUAACAAUAUAUUUAAGGGAAUGUAAAAUAUUUAAAACUUUAUUUAAUUUAGUUUCUAAAUUAUCGCAAUCUUUCAUUGUUAAAGAUUAAACACCACCAAAAAAUUAUCAAAAAUUAAAUUAAAUUAUCACGACCUUAAUAUUUUUCCAUUGUGCAAAGAACCGGUCGUCUGAUUUUUUUCAAAAAUUCUCCUACUUUUAUCACCUCAAAUAUUGAGAUUGUGAAAUUUAGCCCCCAAUUUCAAACAAUCACGUGGUAUUUGAGGUAUUUAUAAGUAAAAUCAUUGGAAUACUAUAUAACUACAAGUGAAGGGUAGUUGAGUUUGAAAUUAGGUAACCAUUUUAUUUAUUGAACGACAAAUAUCGUGCAAUUACAUAUUGAGUGAAGAAAAUUAUAUACAAUCACGAUAUUUAUUUAUGAGACUUAAAAUUAAACUUAUGUCAAUAAUUAAUCUUUUAUUUCCUAUACAUAAUACUCCCUCGCUCCUAAAUUAUAAGUUGUUUUUGAGGGAAAUUGUUUCAAAUUAUAAUAAGUAAGUUUUACAGUAGCAUAUUUUUUCUAUCAUAUUCUUAAAUAUUUCUUACCUUUCUAUUUUAUUAAUGAAAGGUAAUUUUAUCAAAUGACUCAUAAUUUCGUUUUCUAAUACAAAAUUAACAAGGUAGAAUUUAACAAACAUACCUGAAGAUCAAAAAUUCCUAGCCAAGGAACAUAAUCAGCCAGAUUAAAAGCUCCAAUCAAAGCCAAUCCUUCUUGAACCAAACUCUUCAAGUCAAAUUGCUCAUACUUACUCCGACCAAACAUCAACUUAUACACAAUAUCUUCUAUUAGAUUCUCUACAACCUCACUAACAUUCACAACCUCACCAACCAAAGCAGCUUUCUUCAAAGUGUUAACCAAAAUACUCAACUCCUCUUUUCUAAUAGGACCAGACAUCUCAACUUUUGAAGCACUAAGAAGUUUCAAAGUGCAAAAUUUCCUCACACUACGCCAAUAAGGACCAUACUCACAAAAAGCCAUCCCUUUGGAACCAUAAGACAUGAGCUCAGAUCCUUGAAUCUUUGGUCGGCUUGCGAAAACGAUGUCGUGGGUUUUGAGGAAUGAUUCUGCUGCUUUUGAAGAUGAAAUGACAAUAGCUGGGACUUGACCAAGUUGUAAGGACAUGAUUGGACCAUAUUUUUUGGAGAGUGACUGAAGUGUUCUAUGUGGAAGGGUGCCUAAUAUGUGAAGGUUCCCUAUUAUUGGUAGUGUUGGUGGACCUGGUGGUUUUUCAUGGAUAAUGGUUUUUUGUUUUGAAUGUAAGAAGAGUUUGAAUAGAAAGUACAUGAAAGUGAAGAGAAGAAAAGCAAAUAUUAUUGUUGUUACUGCAAAAGACAUGUCUACAAAUGAAUGGUUGGGUUGUACGUAAUAAGGUUGAAGAUAAAGACUAUAUAGAACUCCAAGUUGAUCUCAUAUUAUCUUGAAACUGGUGGUAUACGUUUGUUUGUGGAAUUGUUUUCUUGACAUGUAUUUGUGGAAUUGUUCGUUGUGAGAUAUUUCUUCCCCGAAAAUAAAAGAAUAAAGAUAGCUUCUGUAACCAUAUUUUUUCAAUUGCGGCCACUAUUUUUUCAAAAAAAUAUAAUGACGCAACUAAAAUACGCGUGACCACUAUUUUUCCAUUUAAUUAACCAAAUAAAUUCGGUGAAAAUAAUGGUCACACAACUGAAAAAUAUAGUCACACAUACCAUAUAUUUAGUUGACUUUAAAUUUUUAAGAAUGGUAGAGCAAUCUAUCAUUGCUCAAAAUAAAAGUAUUGACUAUUGAGUUAUUUAUGACGGGCCCCUUUUCUGCAGCGCCAUAUACCCAAUCAGGAUGAUUGAUUUUGGUUAAAUAUUUAUGACUAUUGAAAAACUGGUGGUGUGCAUGUUUGUUUGUGUAACUUUCUUAAGGGAAAAAGGAACGUGCUCAGUGCCGUAGUGUUCUCAAAACAUUUAUUAAUCAACCUACUCCCUCAAUCAUUGCUUCUUUUUUUUUUCCAUACAUUUAUUAACAAAAUAUAUAUUUCCUCCGGUCACAUUUAUAAGUAAAAAAAACUACUCUUUAGAUAUAUUGAAUAGUUAAUGUAUCUAACCUAUAAAUGUGGCCGGAUACAUUAAUUAUUCAAUGUAUCUAAAAUGUGAUUUUUUGCUUAUAAAUGUAACCGGAAUGAGUAAUUUUUUAGAUUAACAAAAAAUAAUUAAAGUAAAUAUUUUGUAAGUAUUUUGUCAAGAAAAAUCUAAUAACAUCUUUAUCUUAUAUAUUAAUAGAAAAAUAUAAUCAAAUAUCUUGUAUGAAUAGUAUACAUAGUAGACCAAGGGAGUAAUAUAGUAGUAGCAUUAGUCAAAUUUGAGUUUGAGUUGGACUGUCAAAAUUACCUAUUCUUGACGUGAAGAUAAAAGAAGUGUAGAUUGGCUCGCUAAUUUCAACAUUUUGAUGGAUUUUCUAGAUUUUCAUAUUAUGGAGAAUCCCCCUAGUGAGUUUCAGAGUCUUUUGUUUGAUGAUAUUUUCAAAGCUUGCAUACCUAGGAACGUCCGUUUAAUUUCUUAAUGUAGAUUUCAAGUCUUUUGUUUGUUUAAUGUAGAUUUUCGUUGAAUUUGUUUGAUGGGAUUUUUUUAUGCAUUUUUUUCAUGAGUUCAGUGAUGAUUUUUUUAAUUCAAACUUUGGAAAUGGAUGUGAUAAAGGGUAAGAGAGAGAAUUAUAAUAUAUAUAUAUAUAUACAUUUGAAUUAUUUAUGAAACAAAUUGACUAAGAUAAUUUUCAAAUGCCACAUAACAUAAUUGAAAGGCCAUUUGUUCAAGUUCUAGAAACAAUGUUUUAUGUAAAAAAUAGGAUAGAAUUGCGUACGAUACGCCAAAUGUCGAGACCUCUUCUUGACUUUGCGUAUGCGGAAGCUUUAGUGCACCAGACUGCACUUUUUAUAAUAAAAAAAAUCCUGACUCGGUGCCCCACAUAAGCUAAUUUGUAUACUAAGCUCUAAAAUCAAAUAAUAUUCAAAUGGCAACGAAGAAUCUCAAACUUUUUUUCGAGGAAUAACUAAAACUCGCCCAAAUGACAGGAAAAACACUAGGACAGAUCAUGUUAGUUUUAAUUCAAGUUAGAUGGUUUUAACUCAAGUUAGUUGAUCUUUAGAAAGAAAAAAAAAAAACUCAAGUUAGUUGAGAUUAAAUCAUGGUUAGAAUGUUUGUUGGAAGACUUGGCUAUUAGUUAGCAAAAUCAGUUCAGUUUGUUUUGAUUGCUUACUAAGCAAGCUAUGUAAAUAAGCUCUUUAUAAGCAUGUUGUAAAUAUUUUUUCACAACUUAAUGAGAAUACAAUUUUACAACAAUCAAUUACUCUUCUUCUUUCUCUCAGUUCUCUCAAUUUCUCAACCCUAAUUUUCAUAGAAACUCUUGCUUGCAUUGCAAGAAACUUAAGUUACAUUAUCAAAUUGGCAUCUAGAGCCACUAGUUCUAAUCUAAGGGAAAAAGAAUACUUCAAUCACGCAAAGAUUUAGGAGCAUAAAUGGUGUAACUGAAACCACGAAUGGUAAUAAUAGUUUCAAUACUCAUCUUCCAAAUCUUAAAGGUGGAAAUUGGGAAAGAUAGAGUCGUGUGAUGAAGAUUGUGCAAAAUGGUUUUGAUGAAUUGGGUUGGAAUGCAACUGAAGUACAAAGAAUUGCACAUAAGGAGUUAAAGAAGAAGGAUUGCAAAGCAGUGUUCUUCAUUCAACAAGGUGUUGAUGGAGGAAAUUUUGAUAAAAUUUCUACGGCUACAAGAUCAAAGGAAGUUUGGAUAUUCUAGAGAAAUAUCAUGAAGGAGAUGAGAAGGUGAAGGAGAUAAAGCUUCGGUCUUUAAGAAGGAAAUUUAAGUUGAUGCAAAUGGAAGAGGAGCAAAAGAUUCUUGAUUACAUCUUUAAGUUGAUUAAUGUUGUACAAAUGAAGGCAUGCAGUGAAACAAUCUCUGAUUAACAAAUUAUUGAGACGAUCAUAAGAACACUAUCUCCAAGAUUUUAUUUUAUAGUGGUGGCCGUAAAAAAAUCAAAGGAUGUGAAAACUUUGAAAAUUGAAGAAAUGCAGAGUUCAUUGGAGGCACGUGAAUUAAUAAUGUCUGAAAGAAGUAGUGAAAGAUCAAUUCAACAAGCUUUACAAGUUCAAACUGUGAAGAAGGAUGAAUAUGAUAAAAAGAAUUUCAAGAAAGGCAAAAGUAACUCUAAGGGCGAAACUGGUCAAAUUCUAAAGAGAAGAACAAAGCCAGUGAUAAAACUGAAUCUUCAAAAGGAGGAGGUUCUGGUAAUUAUCAAGGCAAGAAGAAAGGCUUUGAUAAGAAGAAGAUAUGUUGUUAUAAUUGUGAAAAGUUUGGUCAUUAUGCUUCUGAAUGUUGGACCGGUAAACGGAAGCAAGUAAAGAAUGAAGAGGAACAAGCCAAACUUUCACAAGAAGAUUUAGAUUAUGAUGCAGUCUUGUUAAUGGUGAAAACAACCAAUAAUGAAAGUCGUAAGUCAGAUAGAUGGUUUUUAGAUAAUGGUUGUUCUAAUCAUAUGACUGCAAAUAAGAAUUGGUUGAAAGAAAUCAACACGGGAAGAAACAGCAAGGUGAAGCUUGCAUAUCAUAGAACACUAGUUGGAAAAGGCAUGGGAAAGAUUGUUAUUGAAAGAAAGAAUGGAAAAUUAAUAGUAAUUUAAGAUGUGAUUUAUAUUAUGGGGAUGUAAUGCAACUUGUUGAGUGUAGGUCAAUUGGUGCAAAAGGGCUAUUCAGUAACAAUGAAGGAUAACUCUUUGAAAUUGUUUGAUAAAAAUCAAAGGUUAGUUCUGAAAACUCCCCUUGCAAAGAAUAGGACAUUUCAAACUGAUAUGAAAACUACUGAUCUGAUACUAUAAAAAAUGAAGAUAGUUAGUUAUGGGACUACAGAUUUGGUCAUUUAAAUUUUAGAAGUCUUAAUCAGUUAGUUGACGAAGAAUUGAUUUUAGGAGUACCAAAGUUGAAUAUACCAGAGAAAAUAUGUGAUAUUUUUUUUGAUAAACAAGCAACCUAGAAAUGCAUUCAGUGCAAAUACAACUCAUAGAUUAACAGAGGUGUUGAAUGUAGUAUAUUCUGAUGCAUGUAGUCCAUUAGAAGUUCCUUUAAUGGGAGCAGGAAGAUUUGGCUAUUUCUGAUUAAAGCAAAGAGUGAAGUUUUUGGUAUAAUCAAGAAGGAGAAGUGCUCUAGUUGUUCCUGCAAUAUUGAUGAAGAACGAGUUCAACAAGAAGUUGAGAUUCAGCAGGAGCCUCCCAUAACAGUUAAUCAAAACAUCAGAGUCUCACAAAGGAAAAGGUUUGUAUCUUCUAGACUGAUCCACUUUAACCUUUAAAACGUGGCCGACAGAAUAAUUAUCUUUGGAGUAAUUAGUUCUGGUGUGUGUCAUUUACUCAUAUUUGUUUUAUGCAUCCACUUUAAUUCAAUGUAUUGAGAACAUCUUGAACAAGUCUUAUCUAUUAUACCAAUGUAUGAACCACUAAAAUUAUUUAUAAUAUAUAAACACAAAUUUAAGUUGAAAUAAACAUUCAAGUUGAAACAACGGAGUUCGACUAAAAAUUAGCAUGAAUACUUAAAUCAUUACAUAUUUAACAACUAUUAUAAAUUAUGAAACUUUUUUUUUCGUACAUUACAAUUGUUAACGGAAAGAAUUUCCAGUUGACAGAACAAUAUACGGGAGAUUUGAAACUCAUGUAAAUUCGAAAGUCUAUAAGUCUUCGCUAACAUGCCAAGUAUAAGUAUCACAAAACUCACGUAUGUCACUUUUGAAAUUGCGGAAAACUAUAAUCGUUAAAAGAUAGAUCUAUAAUUAUUUAAAUUUUUAGGUUGGCCACUACACCACUUUACGAAAAUUUGAAUCAACCGUAACCAAAAAUUGACACAAAAUUGUAUAAAAUAUCGUAAAAUAGACCUAUAAUCGUUAAUUUUUUUAUUUUUCCGGAUGCCCCAUAUGGCUCCACUUGAAAGAACACCAUUCUUGUGUAAAAAAUAAUAAAAAUAAAUUUAUAAUAGUAACCGUACUUGUGUUUUUGACAACUGUUUUUUUUUUCCUAAACAUAAAUUCUUUUUUUUUUUAAAUAAAUUUUUUUAUACACUUUCAUUCAUUAUAAAAAGUGAUAAAUUGUUAUUUCUCAACUAUAUUUUAUUUCUGCAUGCCAGUUUAUUGUUAUGAGUUUUUUUUUUAAAAGACUUUAUUGCACUACAAGAAAAUUGCCAUAUAUCUAUGGAGGUUUAUAGUGACGGACUAAAAUCCGUAGGUAUAUAAGUUUUACCUACGGAAGUGGCCAUAGGUCUAUCUUAAAAAAAAUAAAAAUAAAAAAUAAAUAGUAAUACAAGAGAGUGCGCCUAAUGAAAACUAUAGACCGGGAAAGAUCCCGCUUUUUCCAAUUUUUUCCACCUCUAAAUUGAAAAUAUAUAAAAAAAACUCUAAUAAAAACAAAAAAAAAACCCAACUCUUCACGUUCAAGAACACAAUUUCAUUUUUCACCCGUUUCAGAAUCCAAAUCAAAAUCUCACUCUUCCAAAUCCUGAAAUGGCCAAAUCAAAACCUCACCUUUUUUUCCCUGAUUGAAACCUCAGCCUCUCUUGUUCUUCCCCGUUCCCAAAUUGCAACACUUUUCACACCCAAAUCGAAAUCCUUGAAGAUCAACUGAAAGAAUCUGAAGUCAAAUCCCUCUGUCUCAAAGCAAACGAGAUCCUGUAAGCCAUCAAUUUUCACGUUUCUUCUGUUUUUACUUUCUGUAAGUCAUCAAAGGACAAAAUUCUGUUAUUAGGUUUUCACUAUUUUUACUUGAUUUUUUGAUUUAUUUUUACUAUAAUAUUUGUUGAUUUUUUGAUUUGUUUUGAUUAUGUUUUUAGUAUGAUAGUAACAAUUAUCUUUCAAGGGAAGUUAGUAGGUUUAUUUUUUGAUUUGUGUUGAUUUUUUUAUUUGUUUCUUUUUACAUAGUAGCAACAAUUAUUUUAAUGAAAAGUUAUUUUAUUUUUAGGAUAUCUUUCAAGGAGAUUUAGUAGGUUUGGGGAGUGUCGUUCGAAGAUACAAUUAAUAGAGUGGACGGUUGUUGUUAUUAGUCAAUUAUUUGAAUAUAAUUUUUAUAUCUUCUAAAUAAAAAUGAGAAUAAUUGAUAUAUAUAUAUAUAUAUAUAUAAUCGAGUCAGUUCAUGAACUAAACGAGUCGAACUAUAUAUAGUUCAUGUUCGACUCAUAUAAUUAACAAACUUAAUUUUCAUCUCAAAUUCGAUUCAUUUGAAAAUUCUAUGUUUUAAACUCAUAUUGUGAAUCUUCAACGUUGUAAAAUGAAAAUCGAACGAUUACAAAUUACUCUUGGGGUAAGAAUAAUAGAAGAUAACUAGCAAAGUUAAAAAAAAAUGUUUAGGUUGUUAUUUGUGUCCUACUAGAGUACUAGUAUUUCUUGAACUCUAGAAAUUAACUAAUUUUUCAAUUGUAUUAAUACCAUAUUUUGUUUUAUACAUGAGUUAAUUAGCUGACUACCUCAUUUAUUUCUUUUCAAUAUUUAUUUUCUUUGUUUGAAGUUUAAUAGUUUGUUGUUCUCUACGAAAGCAAAAACUAUUUUUAUAUUUUAUUUUUUAUUCUUGAAUUGUAAUGUCAUCUUGUGUAUUUCAAGUCCAAAAUGAGUUGAUUUUGCAUGGUUGACCUGAUUUGGUAUUCUCUCAUUGCUUUAGUCCGAUCUUUUAAUUUACCACACAAAUAUUGUUUAUCCUCUAAAUUACCACACCCUUCCCAUACAAGAUUGAGAGGUAGUCAUAAUCACUCCUCUCACAUAUAAAUUGUCAAUCGUUGGAAGGCGGUUGAGAAGAAGACGCCACAUAAAAAGAUUGAUUUGCAGAGGAACAUCUUUAUGUCAGAAUACACGGGAAUAGUAAGUUGUCGCUGAAUUGAAGCACUAAGUAGAAGAAAUAGCACUGCCUCUUCUCUGCUAACAUUCAUAUCAACAACAUGAGAUGGUGUGGUAAAGGAGCCAUGAAAAAUCAAUCGGAUCCUUGAAGUGCAUAGAUAUUAAGAUGUGCUCUUCAGCCCAAGAAAAAGGCACACCACGAUGGAACAUGAUAAAAUGGACAAAGGAGAGGAAUGCAAUAUAGGCACAUACAAAGCUUCCCUAAGAACAUAUUUCAAAUCAUUAUUAGAUAUAUGAAUAAUUUUUAAAAGAUAUUUUAGUUUACAUUCAAUACCAAAUUAUUUUUUAAAUCAAUAUGAAUUAUAUAAUUGGUUUGAAUGAUAAUGUAUAAUAAAUCAUGCAAUUACAAAAUUAAAUACACAUCCACAUUUUUUUUAAUGAUUUUAUCAACAACAUAAAUUGAUCCUACCAUACAUUAUAAAAAAAAUCUUUUUUUAUAUUUGAGAGGCAUACACUACAAAUAUAAAAAAUUCCUUGCUAUCUUCUUCCAUAUUGAAAGGAACACAUCAAUUAGGCAAAUAAUUGUCGAAUUAUUAACAGAAAAUAACUUCAAAUUCAGCUUUGCAAGCCAUCUACUUGGAAAAGCAUCGAAAUCCAUCCAAGAUUCAACAAUGAGAGAUAAUUCAAACCUAUAUUUGACAAUAAGCCUUUUGAGAGCUAAUUUUGAUAGGGAACUUGCUAUACCUGUAAUAUUCUAGAAUUGGAAAAGCCAACCUUUAAUCUGGUGUUGUAUUGCUUUCUUAAUUUCUCAGUUUUGUUUUGUUUGCACCAGCAUCUGAAUUCGCAUUUCAAUACGGUUUAUAGCAUUGACGAGUAAGUUCAUUCAUAUUCCUCAAAUAUUCAUGAUCACCAUUGUCACAUUCGCAUUUUAAUACGGUUUUUAGCAUCAAUACUAUGUUCCGAGUUAGUUGUUCCACAAGCAUAAGACAUGUCAUUAACAUUGCCAGAAUUAUUCAAAGUGUUGUUAUAAACCAUUUCAGCUCUUUUUUUUUUUCCUUUUCUAUAUGUAUCCUUUAGGUUCACAGCUCCAAUAUUAUUAUCUGUGUAUAUUGUCUUUAGAUUACACAAAGAUUUUCUUCUAAUCCUAUUUAGGUUUUAUUCUAUUAAGGGUCCGUUUGCUACAGCUUUUUAUAAAAAAAAAAAAAAUCACUUUUUUUAAUCUUGCAUCUUUUUAUUCAGAUUUUCAAAAAAAAUUAAAAUCUGAAAAUAAUCUAAAAACAGCUUCAAAUGAGUAGCUGUUAUGAGCAGCUUUUUUUUUUAUAGAUUAUUUUUAGAGGAGAGAGAAAUUUGUUACGAGAUUUUAACAAAAAAAAAAGAUAUGUUUAAAACAAACUAAAAUUCCAAUCAUAUCCUUGUUUUGCUAUAUAUACGCAAAGACUAGUCUUCCUUUUUUCACAGCCUAUUCGUUAUUCUUCUCUCUAUUCUCUAAACAAGUGAAGGUUAGCAAUUUUAUUAUCUUUUUGAUUCAUUCAUAAUUGAACCUGUAUAUUUUUUUUUCAUGUUUCUCUUCCCAUUAUCAUAUAUUUUGUGUUGUUUUUGUCUAUUUUGGAUGUUUUUUAUGUUUGUAUAUAUCAUUGUUGCUUCUAUUUUGCGGUGCUGUUGAUGUUGGGUUUUGAGGGUAAUUGUUUGGGUGCCCUGCCAUGGCGUGGGGCUCGUAUAUAUAUCAUAAAUUGGAACCACUAUAUAGUUAUUAUUAUCAAGGAAAAUGCUAUUUUUUUACGAAAACCAAUGGCAAGAAAUCGACAAACGCUUUUGUAUUGUGCUAUUUCACCCACUGCUUGUCUCCUACUCUUGUAGUAUUCUGUCAAAUGCUAAUUAAACUGAUGAAUAUUUGUUAAAUUUUUAUAAAAAUAUAAUAUGAUACUUUGUAUUCGGCAAUAUGAGUGUAUGUAUACAAGCAGAUUAAAUUAUGAACAAAUGCUAGUGAUAAAUUUAUCAUUCUUGUGUUUCUUGUGCAAAAUAUAUGUGGAGUAAUAAUUUGGUAAAUCAACAAUUUUAUGGCAUGCUUAACUAUUCAUAUUUUGUUUACAUAUAUAACAUUGUUUGAUCCCUAUUGUUAGAUCACUUUAGUUAGGUAUUGAUUCAGGUUAAAUUAUGAACAAAUGCUAUUAUCAAUAUGUAGUAGCUAAAUAUCAUAUAUAUAGUAUCAUAGGAUAUGGAAGAACAAUCCAUCUUUUUCAACUAAUCAUUUUGCUCGUGUUUUAACAACGUAAAUGCAUUUUUAAUUAACAUACUUGUUUUCAUACAUAAAAAAGUAUUUUUUUUUUUUUUGGACAAACAUGUUAUAUUUGAAAGAAUUUUUUUUUGUGUCCUUUAUGGUAAUUUUAUAAUAAAAAAUCACUUUUAGAAAGUUGUAUCCAAAUAAACUAAAAAUCACUUUUUUUUUAAAAAGUGAUAUUUGACAUGGUAAACAAACAUAAAAUAGAUUCUGAUUUUUUAAAGAAUCUCUAAAAAUUAUCUCUAAAUUAUUUUAUUUUAAAAUCACUUUUAUUUUAAUCCGUAACAAACGGACCCUAAUUCUCUUAAACUUCACCAUAUCCAUGGUGGAAUCAGAGAAAAUGCAGAAGCUCAACGAAAAAGAAAGAGAGAAAAUUAGAUCAAAUUCUAGAUUCAUUGAAUUGAUCUGAAAUUGGUUACAACAAAGCUAUAUAUAGCUGUAUAUGAUCCUAACUAACUCUAAAAAACUAUUAGCUAGCUAGGAUUAGAAUCAUAUGAUGCUAGUACACAGUAAAGAUCUAUGGAAUGGCAGAGUAAUAUGCUGCGCAAGCUAUCUAAUAUUACAAGUAAUCACACAAUUUAAAAAAGAAGAAAAAGAGAAGGAGAGUGCACAAACAAAUAUUGGCGCCAGAUAAAUUGUGCAUAACCAGGAUAAUUAGGGAACCUUGCUAAAUAUAUUGGUACUCUCUGGUGGUUUGAUUUUAAUAAUUUGGAGAAUCAACUAAGUUCGAUGAUGAGGCCGAGGGAGGCAUGGUGGAAAAGAAGAAUUAUACAAUUGCAUUGUAGAGAUGAAAACGUAGCUUGGCAAAACAUGAAAACAAUGAGCUCUAUCUGAACGUUAAUGCAAAACAAUUUCACGCCGAUAGUGUAUAUUCACUAAUAUUGCCCAUUUUCACAUCAGAUGUGUUCGACUCAGGCACAACCACCCUUCAUUUGUGCAACGUCUGCAAGAAGUAAAUCAAUCACUUUGCUCUAGCUAGAAUCAUUAAAAUAAUAAGCAUUUCAGAGUUUGAGAGAUUAAGAAUUCUAUUGACUUUGUUUUAUGUCGAAUCCUAGUUCUUAUCACGAAUUAUUAUAAACAAACUUCCCAGACACAGGGAUAUUUAUGACAAGUUCACUUACUGAACAGAUAAGAAACAAGAAUUUGAAAUAAAACAAGGAUGAGUUCUUAAAUAUAUUCAGUGGAAGCUAAUUUGUGAAGGUAAUCAAAUAUUAUAUAUCCUCAAGCUGAAGUCCCUUCUAAGGAUCAUUCAUGUGUGCUGAUGAUAAUGAACUCAAAUUUGUUGAGACUUCAUCUGUUGCUUUUUUUCGCACGACUGUUGCACCGGACUAUUCAUUAACUUCUCAAGUCCUUUGUGGUUGUGUGUAUUGCUUAGUGGAUGGUUACAUCAACGGUAUAUACUUCUCUACCCCCUUCCAUUUAGUAGAUAUUGUAAAACCAAGGACAACCUCCUGAGGCUUAGGAGAAGCUAUAUAUAACUCUUUUCAACAUCUGUUAUUAGUUGGAAUUAAGUUCGGCUCAUGUGUUGGAUCACCAUUAUUCACUGCCUUCUUUGGAGAUUGAUUUUUCAGGCCAAAAUACAUUCAGUCCCUUGCCUGUAUGUAUAAACAAAAUACACUCAAUUCCUUUAUAAAAUCUUACCAUACAUCUACAAUAUACUAUUUUUUCUUUGCUAUAAGGAUGGAAUUUUAAAUGUUUGGUGAAAAACUGAUAUGUGAAGGUAAUUAGCAUUAUAAAGUCCUGAAAAUCAACUCCAACCACAAGAAGGUGGAAAGAGUAUUACUUUGUUGAAGCAUCCAAUAAAAAGAAAGCCGACUAAAGUUUUGAUAUGUAUGUUAAAAUAAAUUAGUUUGACGAGGCAGAAAAUUCAUGUUAAAGUAUUCACUAAGAUAUGAACUAUGCCUUACCCUUGAAUUAACCAUAACCAGCACAAAGCUAUCAGUUAGAGGAAAUUGAAAUCUUCAGCAGCAAACUUCAUUCCUAAUAUUGCUUAACAACGUCGCCAAUUCUGGCUAUUGGUGUUUCCCCUGAUCGAACAUGAAAUUCCGACUCUUUCAUAAAUAUAUUAUACAUGAAAGGGCUAUUUCAUAAAUGAAGGACCAUCACCUGCAUAUUUUCAUGGAUACAUGUAUUUAAAUUGAAAUCAAGUAAUAUAUGUUAAAAUUAAUACUAUAGGAAUGAAGAUCUAUACCAUAUCAAUACCAGCAUCAAUGGAAGUGGAAACGCGAUAACGAUAAUCUGACGUAUAAGGUUGACAAUUUUAAUCGAUUUUGUCUCAGACAAAAGACAAAAUCACAAGGUUCACAUAAAUCAAGUCUCUUAAAAAAUGUCUUCGUUCCAAUAAAUAAAUUUUGGGUAACCACGAAUAUUCAAAAACUUAAGUGAAGUGAGGUGUCAAAUACCUUAUGGCAGGGAUCUCAAUUCCUCACAUUCAAGAAUAUCCAUAGUUCGAAGCGAAAUAAGUGUCACCUGUUCAGUUUCAUAGGAGAUGCUCUCUGUAAGUGAUAUGACUAAUGCUAAUAUACUAAAAUAUAAAGAGUUAAAAGAUAAAAAAUUCACUUUGUUAUCAAAUUAAACGGUUGAUUUCUCAUUCAUAUCAUCCAAAAUCAUCACCUCUUAUAGUUUCUGUGGUUUAGCUGAAGCAUCCUCUUGCUUUCAGGAAAAACAGUGGACACAACACAACUUGAUCAAUAACAUUGUUCGACACAAACAUGGCUGCGAUUUAGCAGCAUUCCACAACAUAUCUGACACAAACAUAAUGAAAUAACAUGAGUGACUCGACUAGAAUCAUGAAAUAGCUAAAUACACACCUUCCUAAUGAAGAGCUGUAUACACACCUGGCUAAUAGCUUGAACCAAGAAUUUUGAUUUGUUGCAUUAACAAGCUCAGCGUCAAUUCUAAAGAUAUGGCCCAAUUCUCACAAUAAUUUUACUCGUAGACAUAUUCCAUACAAAAACAGAGAAAGCAAGUGAUUCCUGCAUAUAGAAAUUUAAAUUAGAAAGUAAUUUGGGGAUAAGAAGAUGCAGGGAAGAGAUAAAACUAGCAUACAUCUUCUUCCAGAUAAUUGUCUUGAGAAAUGCUUAGAAAUCAAAUAUGCAUGAAUCAACAGAGUUUAGUGCAUGCAUCAACAGCCAUCAAUAUUCUUUAAAAAUUAGCAAAUAACAUACCAAGACAAUUUUAGUACUAUGAAAUUCUGAACAAAAUUCUGACUCAAAGCCAUAGAAAGAUAAAUUCUCAACUAAAUUUGUCCUAAAGGAUCACCUAAAAUCUGUACCAACAAAUUAUACUUAUUAUGUAUGCAGGUCCACUCGUCAUGAACUAAGUUUGUAAUUAAAAAGUGUGGCUAGCAAUCAUUGAUGUAGUUAACGUAUUACAAAUAUUGCGUCAUCAAUGCUCUAAUCACAGUGCCGUAAAAAUAAAUCAAAAUGUUCAAAGAAUUAUAAAAGGGACAUAUACCUCUGGAAAACAUUGAAAAUCUCCUGUCAGGGAGAGAACUCUAUCAGGAACCAUUGCUGCUAUUUUACAAGCUAUCAUAGAUCAUGUUUCAAUAGGCAAACAAUAUUAAAAAUAAACUCAACCUAAUCAAAUCUUAGGAAAAACCAUCUGAAUUUUAACUAAAUCAAAACUCAAUAACACAAAAUAAUAACCGGUUGAGCGCCCAAAAACACGAGCCUUUUUCCAACCUAAAUGACCCAACAAAGUAAUUGUAUCUUUUGCCAUGAUCUUUGUAAAUUAUUCAAAUUAAUGUAGCACCAACACUUCAUAUUGAUGACAUGUCUGAUGUUUAGAUACUGAUAUAACACCAAACCAUAUAAUUUACAUUCAAAAACUUUCAUUUCUUCAAAAUAUUAUCAAACAAUAUAUCAUUCAAAUAAACAAUCUAAAGCAAAUAAAUACAAAAGACCAAUAAAAACCUUGAUGAUCAGACUUUCUAUUGUGUACAGAGCUCCGACCCACGCCCCAAUGAUCAAAAGCGAAAACCUCUACCACCACCGGACUCAUUGUCACAUCCUCCACUCCGAACGAUGUCAUCUUCAUCAUUAGGAACCUAUUAAUCCAUUUAUUUGUCGACCCCACCCUUGUGUGUCAAAGGAAAUCCUAACCAUUCAAUUCAAUCUCCACAAAAUCAGCAAAAUUUAAAAAAAUUUCAAAAAAUAAAAGUAAAAUUGAAUAAAAAUAAAGUGAAUUGAGGCAGAUAAGGGGAAAUAGAGAUCUUACCAGUUAAGUGAAUUGAAUUUUGCGAUGGUGAUCGAGGCCAGAUAAGGGUAAACAACAUACGAGUAAUCAGACUUGCUAAUCCCAUGGAAAAUCAUGAAUAUCUCUUUUUGGAAUAUGAGCUAUCUUAGGUAGAAUAUCUUUCAUGUACUCUGGAUCUCUUCCUGCAGAAUGGGUUCCAAAGAUGUCGACAAUGAGAAUAAAAAUAAAGAUUUUUGAGCAGUUGAAAUCCAAACAUAAGAAGGGGAAAUUGAGAUCCUACCAGUAAAAUUGAUUUUUGCGAUGGUUAAUGAGGCAGAUAAGGGUAAACGUCUCUGCUUCUUAAAACUGUAUUUUUGGAAUAUGAGAUAUCUUGUCCCAAUCCUCCCCUGUUCGCUUCUUGCAUCGUUCCUUUAAUGUUCGGCAACCAAUGAUAGUCAGAAGCUCAAGAGAAGUGAGGUGUCGAAUACCCUCCGGCAAACAUCGCAAUCCUUCACAGCUAUAAAUAUGUAGAGUUCGAAGGGAUUGAAGACCUUCCCAAUUUUGCUCUGGUAAGGACUCCAACUCAUUACAAUAACAGAUACACAGAAGCGUCAAAGCUGGGUUAAAGGUUUCAUUUGGUAACUCCUUCAGUUUUGGGAAAUUAUAUAUUCUCAGAGAUUGAAGAGAAGUAAGGUUUUUGAACAUCCCCUCUGGGAAGGAUGUUAUUCCUUCACCCCCAUUUACGAAAAGCUGAGUAAGACCACGGAAGGUAGAGAUUGACCUCAGUAACUCAUUGUUACAUUCCGAUACAGUGAGGGAUUUAAGAGAUGGAAGACAUGGCAGUCCAAGUUUACGGCAUUCAGAGAUAUCCAACUUAGAAAGACAAGGAAACAUCUCCCCUCUUUCCACUUUCAAUAAACCCUCUAUGUUUGGUAACUGAUAUAAUACGAGUUCCUCCAGAGAUGGGAAAACCCUCACCUCCAUACCAUCCUCAGAUUCAUCAUCAUCCAAGUAUUUCAGAUUAUCCAUAUAAGAUAAUUCCAGGUUUUUUAAAGAUGGUAGUAUACCAAGUAACUGAAGCCGCACAACUUUCUUACAACGCUUAAGUUUAAGAGAAACUAAAUUACUAAGAAUAAUUAUCCAACUUGGCAAGGAUAAUCCCUCAUAGAAACUUAUUUUCAAGCAGUUGAGAUUUGAGUGAGGUUGAAGAACUUCAAGUACUUGCUCAACACUAACAACAGGGUUCUUUGGAAUUCCUUGUUUGUCUUUCCAUGACAAGUAUAAUUCAUGAAGGUCUUUUUUACCCAUCAAAUUAGCCGCUUCAGCUUCAAAUAACCUGCCAACAUUGUUUAAUCCUUGGAUAUGCAGUUUUCCACCGAGGUUUAGAUCACGUAACUCUGUCAAGCUAUUCCCUUUCUCUAAACUAACAAUGUACACACUUAAUGUUCUUAGACAAGUUAAUUUUCCAAUGUUAGGAAACAUGAGAGACAAAGACCGACAUACUUCAAUGACUAUAUGUCUAAGAUUUUGUAAGCAAGCCAAGCGUUUUGGGAGACAACUCAGUUUACGACAGUCUUUUAUUUUCAAGAUUUCCAGUUUUUGUAAGUUGUAAAUUGAGUCAGGCAACUUUUUUAUAUCAAGAGAACGAAGUUCCAAAUACCUUAAAUGAAUUAAACUACCUAGUAAUGGCUCUCGGAUAAAGGUUAUGCAUAAAACCCGAAGAGAAAGGUUUGUUGGGAAGUAAUCAUGUUUUUCUUUUGAAAAAGUACUACAAAACUCAAACCAUGUUCGCAAGGAUUCAACUAUUUUGAAAGCAUCCUUGUCGAAGGAUAACGAGUCUUUAUUGUCAAAACUAAUGUGGUGUGUGCUUUUUGACAAACUAGUCAAGUUUGCAUUCUCCAAAUACAUACAUUCUUGCCCCAUUACUGAUUGAGCAAGAUCAUGGACAAGGUCAUGCAUCUUGAAUGAAAUGUCGCCAGAAAAUUCAUCCAUUUUUCUAUCUUGAAAGAAUGAUUUUUGGUACAAUUCAUCCCACACCAUGAUGCCAACAUCUUCAACCUCCGUAGUACCCCUAGAUGAAAUCAAUCCAUUAGCCAUCCAAAGCCAAAUCAAUUCUUCCUUUAGGAUUUCUGCAUCUUUGGGAAAUAUAGCACAAAAAGAGAAACAUUGUUUUAGGGCUGCCGGUAAAUAAAAGUAACUCAACCUCAAAGCAGGCAAAAUGGAAUUUUCAUCUGAUAAAUCCCAAAGUUCACUGUCUUUAAUUUUAAGCCAUUCCUUUUCAUCUUUCCUUGAGUUCAUUAAACUUCCCAAUGAUUUUGCUGCAAGAGGCAAUCCAUUGCAUUUCUUUACUAUCUCCUUUCCUAUUGCCACGAGAUCAGCACGCUCUUCUUUGUGAUGUCCAAAUGCAUAUUGUUCGAACAACAACCAACAUUCACUAUCAGAGAGAGAAGACAAACGAUGAUGAGUUUGGUAUGUUCCUGUGAUCGUUGCAACAACUUCAUCACGGGUGGACACUAAAAUGGAACUACCUUUGGAUCCACAAGACAACACAGGUUUCAAUUUGUUCCAUUUCUCUCGUGUUAACCCUGAUUCCAAUUGUUGAUUUUGAUUCCACACAUCAUCCAAAACCAGCAAAUAUCUUUUCCCUUGCAACAAUCCUUGCACCUCUCUUUCCAUUACAGCAUAAUCAAAGUCAGGACACUUCUGUAAUGUGAUAGAUUCUAUAAUAGAACACAAAAUCCUCUUUACCGAGAAAGUCUCAGAAACACAAACCCAAAUUUUUUUUUCAAAAUUGCCACUCACCCUAACAUCAUUGUAGACCAAUUGAACAAGAGUUGUUUUUCCAACACCACCUAAACCAACUAUGGGAUAGACGGAAAGGAAGUCAGAGUCCCUUGCUUGGGUGAGAAGAAACUCAACAAUCUUUUCUUUAUCAACUUCUCGUCCAAACACUUUUGGUUCAGCAAUAAUGGAGCCGGUUUGGCGCCCUUCAGCUACUUGAUCUGGGAUUUCCCUAAGAGUGCCACCCAUCUGUAGAGAAAACUUGUUCUUACUUUCAGCAAUAUCAUCUAACCUCCUUGUAAUCUCUUUGAACCUGUUACCAAUCUCAUGGCGAAACAUGAUGUUCUUUGGUUUGAAAGAGGUAAAUCCUCUCAGUCGACAAGACUUGAUCGAGUACUCAUCAAGGAUAUCAUCGAGCACAUAAACACCAUCUUUGAGGUCUUGUAACCAUAGCUUAAUAGAGAGUUCUUUGAAUUGUUUCUUCUCAGCAUCUUCAAGAACAGCCUUGAUGUGAACUAAGUUGUUUGAUAGCUUUUGAACCUUUGACUUAAUUCCAGAAAUGGUUGAAAAUUCAUUUUGAAGGAGAGCCGUCAAAUUUUCAAACACAACUCCAAGCAAAGCGUCGGCCAUUUUUUUGUGAAAACAAAUUAAAGAGUUGAAAGUGAAAUGAUAAGAUGAUGAGAAAUUUGUUUAGAAAGAGUGAGUACUGAACCAAGCUGGAGACCUUUGAGAAUAAAUGCAAUGGUAGUAGGAACUCAGCAAGUAGGUGUUCAAUAAUUGUGGCCGACAGAACUAUUAUCGUGGUCCAUUAUUAUUGAUCCACUUUAACCUUUAAAACGUGGCCGACAGAAUAAUUAUCUUUGGAGUAAUUAGUUCUGGUGUGUGUCAUUUACUGAUAUUUGUUUUAUGCAUCCACUUUAAUUCAAUGUAUUGAGAACAUCUUGAACAAAUCUUAUCUAUUAUACCAAUGUAUGGACCACUAAAAUUAUUUAUAUUAUAUAAACACAAAUUUAAGUUGCUCUACUGUAAUAAACAUUUAAAGAAGUUGAAACGGCGGAGUUCGACUAAAAAUUAGCGUGAAUCUUAAAUCAUUACGUAUUUAACAACUACUAUAAAUUAUGAAGAAAAAAAUUCGUACAUUACAAUUGUUAAUUGAAAGAAUUUUCAGUUGACAUGACAAUAUACGGGAGAUUUGAAACCCACCUAAAUUCGAAAGUCUAUAAGUCUUCGCUAACAUGCCAAGUAUAAGCAUCACAAAACUCACGUAUGUCACUUUUGAAACCGCGGAAAACUAUAAUCGUUAAAAGAUAGAUCUAUGAUUAUUUAAAUUUUCAAGUUUGCCACUCCACCACUUUACGAAAAUUUGAAUCAACUAAAACUAAAAACCGACACAAAGUUGUAUAAAAUAUCAUAAAAUAGACCUAUAAUCGUCAAUUUUUUUUUCGAAUGGGCCGCCCCAUCCCAUGAAGGGCUCCGCCACCGGAAAGAACACCAUUCUUGUGUAAAAAAUAAUAGAAAUAAAUUUAUAAUAGUAACCGUACUUGUGUUUUUGACAACUGUUUUUUUUUUCUAAACAAAAAUCCUUUUCUUUUAAAAAUAAAAACUUUUACAUCAUUAUAAAAAGUGAUAAAUUGUUAUUUCCCAACUAUAUCUUAUUUCUGCAUGCCAGUUUAUUGUUAUGAGAUUUUUUUUUAAAAGACUUUAUUGUUAUGAGAUUACUUUGUGCAGAUUAGCCACUGCAAAGUGUCGUUCGAAGAUACAAUUAAUAGAGUCGGCGGUUGUUGUUAUUAGUCAAUUAUUUGAAUAUAAUUUUUAUAUCUUCUAAAUAAAAAUGAGAAUAACUAAUAUAUAUAAUCGAGUCAGUUCAUGAAUUAAACGAGUCGAAUUAUAUAAAUUUAUGUUCAACUCAUAUAAUUAACGAAUAUAAUUUUCAGCUAAGUUCGACUCAUUUAAAAAUUCAAUGUUUUGAACUCAGACUGUGAAUCUUCAACGUUGUAAAAUGAAAACUAAACGAUUACUAAUUACUCUUAGGGUAAGAAUAAUAGAAGAUAACUAGCAAAGUUAAAAAAAUGUUUAGGUUGUUAUUUGUGUCCUACUAGAGUACUAGUAUUUCUUGAACUCUAGAAAUUAACUAAAUUUUCAAUUGUAUGAAUACUAUAUUUUGUUUUAUACAUGAGUUAAUUAGCUGACUACCUCAUUUAUUUCUUUUCAAAUUUAUUUUCUUUGUUUGAAGUUUUAAUAGUUUGUUGUUCUCUACGAAAGCAAAAACUAUUUUUUAUUUUAUUUUUUAUUCUUGAAUUGUAAUGUCAUGUUGUGUAUUUCAACUUCAAAAUAAGUUGAUUUUGCAUGGUUGAGCUGAUUUGGUAUUCUCUCAUUGCCUUAGUCCGAUCUUUUAAUUUACCACACAAACAUUGUUUAUCCUCUAAAUUACCACACCCUUCCCAUACAAUAUUGAGAGGUAGUCAUAAUCACUCCUCUCACAUAUAAAUUGGUCAAUCGUUGGAAGGCGGUUGAAAAGAAGACGUCACAUAAAAAGAUUGACUUACAGAAAAACAUCUUUAUGUCAAAGUACACGGUUCUCAUCUGCAAUGAUAUUUUGAUUGGCUAAUUGUUGAAGGAAAUUAUAAACACUACUAAUAAUGUAAUUAUUUGAAGAAUGUAAAUUCCACCGCCACCUGUUAUUAACAUCAUCCUACGGGAACAGUAAGUUGUCGCUGAAUUGAAGCACUAAGUAGAAGAAAUAGCACUGCCUCUUCUCUGCUAACAUUCAUAUCAACAACAUGAGAUGGUGUGGUAACUGGUAAAGGAGCCAUGAAAAAUCAAUCGGAUCCUUGAAAAUGAACAAAGGAGAGGCACGUUGAAAAACGAAACAAGAGGAAUGUAAUAUAGAAACAUACAAAGCUUCCCUAAGAACACGUUUCAAUUCAUUAUUAGAUAUAUGAAUAAUUUUUAAAAGAAAUUUUAGUUUACAUUCAAUACCAAAUUAUUUUUAAAUCAAUAUGAAUUAUAUAAUUGGUUUGAAUGAUAAUGUAUAAUAAAUCAUGCAAUUACAAAAUUAAAUACACAUUCACAUUUUUUUUAAUGAUUUUAUCAACAACAUGAAUUGAUCCUACCAUACAUUUUACUUGUGUAUAAAUAGUGGCGGAGUCAGAAAGAAAAUCUCGUAUGGGUUAAAAAAAUUAUAUUGUAAUACAUAAUAAGCACAAAAUUGAUCAUUAAAAAAUUAAAUUACACAUGUUAAAAAUUUAAAAUAAUUCUCAAUGUGAUUCGAAUGAUUUAGAUUCAUCAAUAAUAGAUUAAAAUAAAAUGGGUUCUUAAACUGAAAUUGAAACCAAAUGGCUAGCUGCAAAGCAUAAGGCAAGAUUAGUGGCUAAAGGCUUUAUGCAAAAAGCUGAAAUUUAUUACUUUGAAGUAUAUGCAUUUAUAGCAAGACUUGAGACAAUCAGGUUGAUAGUUGUUAUUGCAUGUGAAAGGAACUGGCCACUGUACCACUUAGAUGUGAAGUCAUCAUUUCUAAAUGGUCCACUAUAAAUAUAUAUAUGAAGUUGUGUAUGUCACAAAACCUGCAGGGUUCAAAUUCAAAGAAAAUGAAGAUAUGAUAUUCAGAUUACAUAAGGCUCUAUAUGGUUUGAAGCAAUCUCUAAGAGCAUGGAAUAAGAGGAUUGUCAACUUUCUAGUGCAGCAAGAAUUUGUCAAAUGCAAAGCUGAAUAUAAUGUCUAUGUAAAAAAUAGCAAAGAUAGUAAUCUGGUGCAUAUUUGCUUAUAUGUUGAUGAUUUAAUAGUAACUGAUAGCAAUUUGGCUGAGAUAGAAGCCUUUAAAGGUCAUAUGAUGAAAAAGUUUAAUAUGACUGAUCUAGGAAAGUUAACAUACUUCCUUGGUAUGGAAUUCACUAAAACUUCUGAAGGUCUAGUUAAGCAUCAGAAGAAGUAUGCUUCUGAUAUUCUCAAGAGGUUCAACAUGUUGAACUGCAAUCCUGCAUCUACACUGUUCAAACAAAUUGUAGGAUCCUACAUUGCUCAUUGUUCAAACUAGUAAAGAAUGAUGACGAGGAGUUGGUUGAUUCUACAUUUUUCUAACAAAUUGUAGGAUCCUUGAGAUGUAAGUGCAAUAACUAGCCAACUAUAGCUUAUGUUGUUGGUAUAAUCAGCAGGUUCAUGAGUGAACCUAGAAGCUCUCAUCUACUUGUAGCUGAAAGAGUGAUAAGAUAUGAUGACAAUCAUUCAUUCGUUAUUUUUAGAGUCUUUUUAUGAUAUUUUUGAAUUCACAAGCAAGAUUAAGCAACAAGAAAAAACUGAAAAAGCUUAAAAAAGGCAUCGUGUCACGAUUACUAAAAAAACGUGACACGAUUUGGAGCUUUCAAGAAAUAUGCAUUCGGCAUUGGUGAAAACGUGUCACGAUGGCAAAAACGUGACACGGUUAUGGAAACCCUAAUUUGGGUGGUUUGUUACACAAGGAAGAAACGUGUCACGAUUUACAUAAAUUGUGCCACGAUUUUAGGAGCAGUUCUUGCCUAUUUAAGCUUGAGACAAUUCUGAAAACAAGGGUUACGAAUUGGAGAGAGCAAAGUGCGAUUUUGAGACCUAAAGACGGCUAGGAGGGCGAUUUCUUCAACCUUCUAUCAGUUCAUGUAAGUUUUGAUUCCAUUAAUGAUUAUGCUAUUUGUAAACUCGAUUAUGAGUAGCUAAAUCUCUUAGAGAUUAGGUCUGAAAUGAUUCUUUGUAACCCUAAUUGAACCAUGUUGCUGUGAAACUCUAUUUAUUGUGAAUGACAAUCUAGUUUUUAUUCAAUUCAAUUAUUCUUAAUGCUUUUUAUAUCUUGAUCAAAUAUAAACAUGAUUUAAUGAGAAUGAAUGACUACUGACCAUAGCUUUCUACUUAGACCUAAAUGAAUUGUUCUAACAAACAUGGUUAGUCUAGGAGUGGAUAAUCGUUUGUUAGAGAUAUUAGGUUAACGUUCUUAAACCUUCAAAGAUUAUUAGACCACCUAAGGAAUUAAGGGAUUGAUUAGCACUAUUUUGUUAACUAUCGCGGAACUAGAAAAUCAUUCAUAAGAAUAGGUGCAGUAUACCAAUUAGGGGAACAUAGAUGAUUCGAAAGACCUGAUCUCAUCUCUUUUCAUAUUUUCUAACCAAAUCUAUAUUUUCAAGCCGAAUCUUUAUUUUAUGUUAUUUAAUUUUAUGCAAUCAAAUCAAAUCUACAAACAAAAUAAUUUAUACAUCCUAAAUAUUUACUUUAUUGCUAAAUUGAGAUUAACACAGUCCUCGUGGAUACGAACCUAUUUUAUUACUUCGAUGCAUUUUUAGUACAUUUGCUAAAAGUUUAUCAAGAUACAUUAAGGGAACCAUAGACUAUGGUGUAAUUUUUCCUAAAUGUAUCAGCGAAGCUAACAUGGAGUUAAUUGCCUACUCAGAUGCAGAUUGGUGUGGAGAUAUGCAAGAUAGGAAAAGCACUUCAUGCUACUUGUUCAAAUUUCUGAAUGCUCCUAUAUCAUGGUGUACAAAAAAGCAACUUGUAUUAGUACUUUCAACUUGUGAAUCUGAGUACAUUGUAGGGUGUUUAGCAGCAUGUCAAGCAGUAUGGCUAGAUUAUGUGUUAAAGGAACUGAAUAUUGAAAUCUGCAAGCCUAUUGCAUUGUUUGUAGACAAUCAAUCUGCCAUAAACUUAGCCAAAAAUCAUGUGUUGCAUGGAAGAAGCAAGCAUAUUGAAGCAAAGUUUCAUUUUCUCAGAGAACAAGUGAACAAAGAGGCUCUCAAGCUCAUAUAUUGCUCAACUAAACUGCAGCUUGCUAAUCGGUUUACAAAGGAUGUGAAGAUUCAAAGAUUUAACGAGCUAAGAGGCUUGAUUGGAAUGAUGAAGUGCGAAAACUUGAAUUAAAGGAGGAUGUUAUAGUUUUAAUUCAAGUUAGAUGGGUUUAACUCAAGUUUAGUUGCGAUUAAAUAAUGGUUAGAAAGUAUGUUACAAGUUUCUUGAAAGACUUAGCUAGUAGUUAGCAAGUUAUGUAAAUAAGCACUAUAUAAGCAUGUUGUAAAUAGAUUUUCACAACUUAAUGAGAAUAUAGUUUUACAACAAUCAAUUACGCUUCUUCUUUCUCUUAAUUCUCUCUAUUUCUUAAUCCUAAUUUUCAUGAAAAUUCUUGCUUGAUACGAACACAUUGAUUUAUACUAUUAAUUUGAAGGUGUGUGUUGUGUUGUGUAUUAUUCAUUUCCUUGACUCCAUAUCCAAUGGAGACUCAAAUGUUGGCUAUUAAAAUAUAUAAACAACAAGCAAUAUCCAUUAGCUUAUUUUAUACGAACAUCAUUAUUAAACCUACUAUACUUGGCAUUUUUACUAGCAAUAAACUUGUUGAACACAACAUUGUUCUUGAAACUAUUUAUGCUUAGCAUAAUCCAAACGAUAACUUGGUAUUGCGUGCAAAUGCUGAGCUCUUGGUAUAGUGAGUCCAAAUUUCUCCUCCAUAUUCAAAUUGAAUGGACUAAUAUUAUGUGAAAGUUCCCAAUUAAAGCAAUGCACAAAUUGAGCUAUAACCAACUUAACAGUAGUUAAACCCAAUUGAAUUCCAGGGCAACGUCUACGACCAUAAUCAAAUGGUAAACUUUCAAACUCUUGUCUUUGAUAAUUCAUUUUCUUUUCAAUAAAUCUCUUUGGAUAAAAUUCUUCAGCAUUUUCUGACCAAACAUUAGGAUCUCUCCCUAUUGCCCAUGCAUUUACCAUAAUUCUCGUCUUUUCCUUUAUAAAAUAAUCAUCAAUUGUUAUGUUCUCUCUACAUUUAGGAGGGACUAGUAAGGGUGCAACAGGAUACAGUCUUAAGGUUUCAUCAACCACCAUAUCUAAGUAAUUCAACUUCUUCAAAUCCUUCUCUUCAACCAUUCUUUUAUUUCCUACUUCAUUUUGUAUCUCAUCUUGAAGAAUUUUCAUCACUCUUGGAUGCCUUAAAAGUGCAGAUAAAGCCCAUUAAAAUCGAGGUAGCAGAUGUAUCAAUUGCUGCCACUAUCAUGUCGAGCAAAAUAGCUUUGAUGUUAGAUCGAUCAAUUACGAGAUUUUGUUCACCCUCGACAUCAAUGGUUUGAUGCAUAAUUGAAAGAAGUAUGUCUACGAAAUCUUUAUGAUGAGUUUUGUUUACAUUAGCAGCUUGUAAUCACCUCUAGCACCUCAUCAAUUUCUUUACUGAGUUUCUGGCAAGAUCGUGUUAAUCCCUAACAAAGAGUUAAACUUAAAAUAUCAAUUAUUACAUCAAUAUUCUCAGUGUACUUAACAGAACCAUUAGAGCAUAUAUUUUUUUUAAGAGGAUUGUGUUCUCCAAUUUUCUUCUUGAUGACUGGGUCUGGAACCCACAACCCUAUAGGUGUAGGUAAAACAUCUUAUCAACUAAACUGCACUUCUAAAUCGAUAACAAUAUAUUUAAGGGAAUGUAAAAUAUUUAAAAAUUAAUCACCACCAAAACAAAAUUACAUCACCGAAAAAUUAUCAAAAAUUAAAUAAAUUUAUCGCGACCUUAAUAUUUUUCAGUUGUAUAAAAAAAGAGGUCUGAUUUUUUUUUUUCCUCAAAGUUUCUCCUACAUUUAGCACCUCAAAUAUUAAGAUAUCAAAUUUAGCCCGGAAUUUCACACAAUCAUCACUAGGAAUUUGAGGUAUUAAUUAUAACUAAAAUUGUCAGAAUACCUAACUACAAUUGCAGGGUAGUUGAGUUUAAAAAUUAGGUAACCCUUUUAUUUAUUGAACUAGAGGAAAAAACACUAAAGGACUUUCGUGCAAUUACAUAUUGAGUGACCAAAAUUAUACAAUCACGAUAUUUAUUUAAGAGGCUUAAAGUUAAACUUAACUCAAUAAUUAAUGUUUUAUUUCUUAUACAUAGUACUGAAGGUGAGAAAAACACAAGAAGGGGGGGUUGAAUUGUGUUUUCUUUUUCUCUCUUAAAAAAUCUUCUUCUGAUAAACCUUCAGAAGCAGUUUGUGAGUGCUUCUGAUGAAAUGAUCAGAAUUAGAUAUGCAGCGGAAAAGAACAGAGCAGAGAAAAGAAAGACAAAGACACAAGCAGUUAUCCUGGUUCCUUCCACAACACGGAAGUAGUCCAGUCCCCCUUGCACUUCCAAGGAGAUUUCACUAUAAUCACAAAGAUUACAAAUGCUCAAUACUUUCUAAGUAUGAGACUUCACAAAAAAUGCUCACGCACACACGCAAGAGUCUUCCAAUGCUCAAGCACUAAGCAAGAGACUUCUAAUGCUCAAGCACGCAGGCAAGAGACUUCUGAUCAAACAAAAAUACAGAGAAUUGAGUUUGACUUGAACACUUGAUAUACAAUCAGUGGUGUUCUCAAUACAAUACAAUAAAGACUCUAGACUUUGAAUUUCUUAAGAUGUAUCAAAUCAGUGCAGAAAUUCAGUGUGCUUUGUAGAAUCAAUUUGACAGAGUUUUGGCGCUUUUUAACUUGUAUAUCUCUCUAUCUUCAAUCUUCAAGUCUUCACUCCUUUAUAUAGAGGCGUGAAAGAGACGUUGAGAUAAUCAGCACGUCUAAAGAGUCGUUUGAAAUCCUUUGAUCAUCCACCAGUAAUCCUAUGCCUGAUUUGGGUGUAGUCCUUUGAAGAAUUAGCUUCAAAUUCAUUCCCAUCUUGAAGGCACAAAUUCUGCAGGCAUAGCUGUUGUUUUGUCUUGUAGCGUGGACAAAAACAGAGUAGUGGAGGUAGUGGUUGUACACUUGUACUUUGUCAACUCUGUCAACGAAGGACAAAUGCUCAGUGCUAUCCAUAUGACCGUUGAUACCUCCCUUUCAAUUCUUCGUUCUUCUUAGAUAAGACUGAAUUGAGAACCAGCUACUUUGGAUCUUCAGUUUGAUUAAUGGAUCAAAUGUAGCUUCUGGUGAAGAUAUCGCUUCUGAUGAAAACCUUGCUUCUGAUGACCUUCUGCUUCUGAUGAGCUUCUGCUUCUGAUGACGUCAUCACUUCAGAAGCACUUCAGCUUCAGGAGCACUCUAGCUUCAGACACAGUUUUCUUCAGAUGCUUAGAAUUUCUUUUGCUUUUCAUUGUUCUUCUAAGACCUAUUGAAAUUACUUGACUAGCCUUUGGUCCUGUACACUUGAACAAUAAUUAGUAAUAACCAAUUGACAAUUUUUAAUACCUUGUUAUCAUCAAAACUCAUUAAGGUUCAUUGUGAAACACAUUUUGUUCCAACAAGUACUGCCACCCUCUCAAAUUGUAAGUUGUUUUAGAAGAAAUUGUUCUAAAUUAUUAGUUAUUUUACAAUAAUAUUAAUAUUAUUAUUUUCUAUACUAAUAAUAAUAAAAGGUAAUUUUAUAAAAUAAUUAAUAAUUUUGUUUUCUCAUAAAAAAUCAAUUAUACCUUUUAAAUGUCGCAAAAUCCAUUUUUUCUUGUAGUGUUUAAUUUGUGUAAGUCAUCAUAACGAGUUAUAAUUUGACAAACAUACCUGAAAGGUCAAAAAAUCUUUAGCCAAGGAACAUAAUCAGCCAGAUUAAAAGCUCCAAUCAAAACCAAUUCUUGUUGAACCAAAUUUUUCAAGUCAAAUUGCUCAUACUUACUCCGUCCAAACAUCAACUUAUACACAAUAUCUUCUAUUAGAUUCUCUACUACCUCACUAACAUUCACAACCUCACCAACCAAAGCAGCUUUCUUCAAAGUGUUAACCAAAAUACUCAACUCCUCUUUUCUAAUAGGACCAGACAUCUCAACUUUUGAAGCACUAAGAAGUUUCAAAGUGCAAAAUUUCCUCACACUACGCCAAUAAGGACCAUAGUCAGAAAAAACUAUCCCUUUGGAACCAUAUAACAUGAGCUCAGAUCCUUGACUCUUUGGUCGGCUUGCAAAAACGAUGUCAUGGGUUUUGAGAAAUGAUUCUGCAGCUUUUGAAGAUGAAAUGAUAAUAGUUGGAACUUGACCAAGUUGUAAGGACAUGAUUGGACCAUAUUUUUUGGAGAGUGAUUGAAGUGUUCUAUGUGGAAGUUUGCCUAAUAUGUGAAGAUUUCCAAUUAUUGGUAGUGAUGGUGGACCUGGUGGUUUUUUAUGGUUUAGGGUUUUUUGUUUUGGAUGUAAGUAGAGUUUGAAUAGAAAGUACAUGAAAGUGAAGAGAAGAAAAGCAAACAUUGUUGUUGUUAGUGCAAAAGACAUGUCUACAAUGAAUGGUUUGGUUUGGCUGAAGUACGUAACAAGGUUGAAGACUAUACAACUACAAGUUGAUCUCUUAUUAUCUUGAAGCCGGUGGUGUACGUGUUUGGUUUGUAUAUCUAGUGAGAUAUUUCCCCUUAAAAAUGUAUUGAGAUAUUUAUGGCGGCCAUACUAUAUACUCUAUAAGGAAAAAAGGAAAGUUCCUUUCGAAAAGACAAAAAAAGGAAAGCGCUAAAAACAUUUAUUAGUCAACCUACUCCCGCAAUUAUAAAUGAGCAUUGCUAUUUAUCUAAAGAGUUUUUAUCUAGAAUUUAACAAGAAAAGGUCUCAACCAAUUAAAUUUAUUAUUUGUUGGAAAUCAUGGAAGGUAGUGGUGUGUAAUUGAGGAAAGGAGUUAGCAAAUACAUUGUCUUAAAAUUUUCUUCAUAAAUUUUGUCACUCUAUCUAUCAUUUCCCAUUAUAAAUGAUGAUUAAUUUUGUUUACUUUACAUAUGUUAAUGCACAAUUUCUACUCACUCUCAUAAGGUUGAACCAUUCUUCUCCCACGGUCAGUGAUUCUCAAAUCUCAAUGGGUAUCCAUUAUUCUUACCAUGUCAUUUUACAUCUUCCUCUAAAUCGAUAACUACAAACCUCCACCUUGCAUAUUGAUGACGGAACAUCAUGUGUUAUUUUGGCUAUGUUUUAAGUACUUUUCUUUGGAUUUGAAGACAAAUAAGAUGAGAAUUAGAGGAGUUGUCAAUGGUUUGAGGAACAGGUGUUUUGAGUGCUUUGUAGUGGGAAAUCAUAUUAAUCGACAAAUCAAGACAUCACAUGAAGGAUCAAAGAUAUGAAGAUUGAAGAUUAAUGGUUCUUAAAAGGUUUUUAAAGACAAUACAAAGUGAAGAAAUUUCAUUUCAAGUUCGUAUGCGUUUCCAAACGGAAGAACGAUAAAAAAAAAAAAAAAAAGGGAUGAAAACGCAAGAUUUCACACACAGGGACUGUCUCAUGUGCCACUAUCGCAUGAGGCAGUGUUACCACUGCCCCAGGCGCCUCAUGCACACGACUGUGGGCAUAAAUUGCCUGCAACUUGUUUUUCAAGCUAAAACGGUGGUAAAAGCUCAGUUUUCUUCUCUUAAACCUUAAGUAAUCAUUUAAUAUAAAUAGAGACCCUUGUACACAUUAUUUUUCAUUCAUAAAGCUAGCAGUUCAAGGGGUAAAGCAUCAGAGUUUCAAGGCAGGAUUCCAACCUCAUCUUGACUCUCUCUAGGGUAUAUUUUUCUAUUGUUUUGUUAUGAUGUUUGUUUCUAUUAUUUUUCAUUCAUAGUCACUUUCUACUGAGAUCAAUUUAAUCAUUGAGAUUAAAAGUACAAUCAACUUUCGAUCUUAGUAGUUGUAAGAACAACAUUAAUCAUCUUUAGGAAGAAGGAUUAUAAUACACAUACAUGAUUUAUACAAAAAUAUAGAGUAGGAAUAAGUAUAUUUCAGAUUGCUUUUAAUAUUUGUAAUUAUAAGUGAUUAUGAAUUUGAUCUCAGUAUUCUGCAGACUUUUGUAAUCGGGUCUUUUUUAUCAGCUGUAGUGAGAUAUGAUAUAUCUUUGAAUGAUGCCCCUUAUAUAGAAAAUGUGGGACCUAUCUUGUCAUGGUGAGCAUGUAACAAAGUAUGCUUCUUCCAAAAGUUAUUGUUGUGAUUUAGUUUUGAAUUUCAUCUUUUGAAGAUCAAUCUCAUAUUCUAACACACUUUUGAAGUUGUUUCCCUUCAUCAUUCUUUUGGUGUUUUUUAAAUUUCUUAAUUUGAAGUUUGAUCUUUAGAACUUCAAUAUGAUGUGUUGUUGAACUGCAUUGCUUAUAUAUUUGAUAUGCAUUUUAAAGUACAAUCUAAUCUUCAUUCUGAUCUAAUUUUGAUUCUGGAUUUUGAAGAAUUUUGAUCAUUCUUGAUGUGACAUAAGUGAAGUUGCUUAUAGUGUUAGAUUUGUGUUUUGAUGAUGUUUAUUAGCUAGAUUCAUUUGAUGAUGUUUAAAUAAGUUUUAGUUAUAAAGCAUAGAACAUGUUAAAGCACCCAACAAUCCUUGUCUCAUUGUGUCAUAUGUGUUUUGUAUAUCAAAUGUGUCUUUGUGUGUGAAAACCUUCAUUUUUGAGUGGCAAAAACUUUUUUCCAGGUCCUUGAUUCGAUUCAAAAUAUUUUGAAUCGAAUCAAUCAUUAUCUAUGCCACUGUUUCUUGUUAGUCAUGUAAGUUUGAUUCGAUUCAUGAUUCUUUGAAUCAUAUCAUUGACUUUCUCUUGUCUUGUGUUUUGGCUUAUUGAAUCAUAUUAUAGUUCUUUGAUUCGUAUCAACCUUCAUCAGAGUUUUUCUGAUUCAAUUCACAUAAUGCUUGAUUCAACCUUUAUAGCUACUUAUAUGUCCAUUUACACAUAUCUGAAUCGAAUCACACAUUACCUUAUUCGAACCAUUACGUUGUUUUUGCCUAAAAUAUUGCAUUUACCACACAUACCACUCCCAAAUUAUUAAAUCAAUUGCAACUAUCAUUCUUGAGUCUUCAAAUCUCUCUCUCUCUCUCUCUCUCUCUCUCUCUCCACUUGUUCUUCAUAUUAAACACUUUUUCUAAGAAUCUUUGUGGUUUUUGAGUCAUAGAUUGCUAGAGUUCUAUUGGGAUUGUAGAUUGGUUUCUUUCAAGGAAAUUGAUUGGAAAUCAAGGGUCCAAAGGAAAAAGAGUGAUUUCUUUCCACCUCCAAGGGAAUUGGGGGUUCUUUAUAAUCUUCUCAAGUUCAAAUGGAUCCAAGCUUCAGACAUAGCAAAGAAGAGUUCGAGGUGAAAAACUUCAAGGAUUGCAUGGGAGUUUGAGUUUCGGAGACUUGAAGAAUCACCAAUUUGAAGAGUUACUUGAAGAUUGGGGGGUUGUCGUUGCUUAGGAUUAAAGAUUAGGGUUAUCGAGGGAAUUCUUUGUAAUCAUAACAAUUGUAAUCAAAUUUCAACAAUAAUGCAUGUCCUUGAUAGAGACAUAUUCUAUCGAGAACCCUAAUCUUUAAUCCCUUUCCUCUUUCCUCUUUGAUUAUGGUGUUAUUCUCUUCCCUUUCCUAUUUGAUUUUGCUUUAUUAUUUGUAAAUGAAUUUUAAUGUUUGUAGCUAUUUUAUUUGAUUGUGAUUAAUUUUCAUACUUAACCCAAUCUUAAUUCAAGAUUCUUUUCAAAUUCAAUUUUAUCAAAAUUAAACUUCUAUUAAGUUUCGAAUCAUUAAUUCAUAUAUUUUGUGUUCCUUAGUGUUAGUUUGGUUUAUUGCAUUUAGGUUUGGUUUAUGAAUUGUGUUAUUGAUGAUUGAUAUUUGAUGUGCUUAUUAAUAUUCAACAUUUGAACCUCUCAAUUCAAUAUUGAAUCUUAGUGUUUUAUUCAUUGUCUUAAUUUUUGUUAUCGUCGUUAUUGUGCGCGAAUCCGAAAAUUCAUACGUUUUCUAAUCACGCUUUCGCUAAACUCUUCUGAAAUUUGAAAAAUACUAUUCAUCCCCCCAAUUUGACUUUAAAUCUGAAGUUUUUUCGACAUGCUUCUAAUCUCAAUCUGAAGUACUUUUGAUCAAUCUAGAGUUCUUCUUAAUACAUUGUAAUAUUUAGAUUCAUGUUUCUUGAAUAAAUUUUGAUUUCCCACUUGUAAUAUCAUGUUAUAAAGAACAAUCAAAGAAACUUCUUAGAAAGCAAAACACAUCAAAAUUAUAAUUGAUCUGUGUUCUCAUAUGUUUGUUAUCAUUAAAACAUGUUCUAAAAAUGGAUUUUGUUAUUUUCCUCAACAAUCUUCCACUUUUUGAUUAUGACAAGCUUCUUGAAUUAAGGAUCAUAUUUUUUAGAUUCUGAUGUUUAAUCAAUGCAUUGAUAUGAGAUAAAUGACCUUUAAACUUAUUCCAUAAUCAUAAUUGAGAAUUUUAAUAAACAAAAACUCCCCCUCAUGAUUAGAAAUAAAAUUAUGCAAUAAUUAAAAUUGAACCAUAAUUGUACUUUAUUAUUUAUAGUCCAAAUAUUACAAAAUAGCAUUCAUGAUGCAGAUACAUGGUUAAAAAAAUAGUUGAUCUUAACAACGAUGAUAGCAAACAUCAUUUUUUACUAGCCAAAAUAAGAUCAUAAUAGGACUAUAAUGCCAAGUUUUUUUUCAUUCAUAACCAAAAAAUUGAUCCUUUUCUUCUCCCUCUUUUUUCAUUAGCAAAAGGGUACAUACAAGUAGCAAGCCACUACUUGGUAAGGGAGGAAUCAUUUGAAUAUAGAGCUUGACUAGAAGUAGAACAAUUGAUGUUGUAGAGUAGCAUUGGGAGUAAUUCAGUUGAAACCAAAGCUUUCCACCCAAAGUCUUUUUUGAGAACUCUCAACAAAAUUUGUUAAAUCAUUUCCUUCCAAACAAGAAGCUUUUUAAUGUCCAUUCUUGUCUUUCUUGAAUUGUCUUAUAAGAGGUUGCAUCAUCUUUUUCUUUUGAACCCCCUUGCUCAUUGAUGACAAUAUCAACCGAGUCAAGUUGUUGAGGAAACAUUGGUAGACCACAAUUACUAGGCUUUGGAGGGUUUGGUUUUUGGUGGUGAUGGCUUUGUUGGUUCAUUCAAAUCAUUUGUGUCCAAAUGCUUUGAUGGUUGCAUCAAACAUUGGUAACUUAGGUAUUGUACCGACUCUUGAUCGGAUUCUAGAUGAUCUCUUUAAGGAAGUAUAACUUGAUUGUUUUGAAGCUUUGGCUAUUUAGUUCUUGGUUAUAUGGGAGCGGAAGCUUUAGUUGAUGGUGGUUCAUGGCCAAUCAUUAGAAUGAAUCUGAGAUGGUGAUGGUUGAGGUUGAGAGCCAGACUAAGUUUUAGUGCAUAAAAUUGACUUUCUCCACUAGUUCUCUUUAUUUCAAAUUCAUCCUCAACAUAAUCGGCAUCACAAUAUUCUACAAGAUCAAAAGAACAACCCUUGAUAUACCAAAGACCAAGAUCAGUAGUAUCUACCAAAUAUAUGAAAAUCCUUAUACAACAAUAUGUAGAUAUUAUUUGGACAAGAUUAAAAUCUAGCACAUAACCUUACUACAAAGACUAUAUAUGGUCUACUUGCAAUGAUUCAAUCAUACCUCAAAAUUCAUUUUUUGAAACAGAUUUUUCAUUCACAUCUUUGUCUAAACUAGAUGAUGGGUGCAUAGGAGUCAUGAUCUCAACUUCAUUCAUUUUGAACUUCUUAAAAAUAUCUUUGACAUAUUUUUCUUAACAGAUGAAAAUACCAUUAAAAUGUUGUUUGAUUUGCAAGCUAAGAAAAACAUGAGUUGUUCCAUCAUGUUCAUCUCAAAUUCACUUUGUAUAAGGUUAAAAAAUUCCUUACACAUGUUUACAUUAAUUAAACCAAAAAUGAUAUCUUCAAUAUAAACUUGUACCAUCAACAUAUCAGAUUGAUUGAUUUUUUUUUUCUUUUUUCUUUUAAAAAGAGUGGUAUCAAUAUUUCUUCUUGCAAAACACUUUUCUUUAAGAAAAAGGUCCCAAUCUCUCCAACCAAACUCUUGGAACUUGUUUAUGACUAUGUAGAGAUUUUGUAAGUUUAAAAACAUGAUUUGAUUUUUCUUUGUUGAUGAACAUUGACUUCUUCAUUCAUAAAACCAUUUAGAAAGUCACUUUUAACAUCCAUUUUGCACUUAUGAGUUGUAAAUGUAAGUAAGAUUAUGAUAGAUAUAAACCUUAUUAUUGGUGCAAAAGUCUCAUCAUAACCAAUACUCCCUUCGUCUCAAAUUGUAUGACGUUUUGGGUAUUUCACACAUUAAGAAAUGUAAUUAAUAUUCUGUGGAAAAGAGAUAUUAUGAGUUGUUUUACAAAAUUAUCUUGAUAAAUAAUAUGAGAAAAAUAAAUGAAAGAAUUGAAAGAAGAGAGAGUAAUAAAUAGUUAGGGUUAUAAUAGGAAAAACAACAUUAAUAUUGUAUUAGUAUUAUAAAGCAACAUAUAAUUUGAGACAACUUUUCUCCUAAAACGACAUACAAUUUUAGAACAAGCUUGUUUCUGAAUACUCUAUUCCAAUAAUUUUUUUGACUGUGAGACUUAAAGACAAGAUUCCAAACUUUAUUUUUUUUCAAAUUCUUCAUGGUUUAAAGAAUUUUUGGGAUUGUUUUCUACUCAUAUUUCUUACAUGCUCUUAACCUUAUUGGUAAUACCGAUAUUUAUUUUCGUUGUUAUGCAGUUGAGAUCCUAUCAAUCCGAGAUGUUUUAAAGCUUGAUUGGACCUUGCAAUUAAUUCACAGUUCACACCUCAAGCGAAGAUAAUCAAGAUGUUGAUCUUAUAAUGACGAUAAGUUCUACCUUUGACAUGAACCUCCUCCUGAUCUCCCUUCCAUUGGAAUAGUUUAAUUAAGAAAGUGUAGAUUUUCUUGGUUUUCUUUGUUUUUUUCUUCCAUCUUUGUACCCAAAAAAUAUCUAACUUCCAAAGGAAACGUGAAUCAAUGUAUGGCUAAAGUCACACAUUAAAAAAAAUAUAUAUAUAAAUAAAAUAUAAUAUGUUAAAAAUAAGAGCAAUAAGUCAACUCUUACAAUGUGUUUCUUGUUUGAGUCCUGCAAUGUUAUUUACUGCUUUUGAUGUGAUUAAUUAUUGAGAAUGACUGAGUUUUAUCCAAAUAAUUUUAUAGAUGUGCUGAAGCGGCGUUACACCAUCAAUAAAAUCAUUUGAAUAAAACAUUUUUAUGAUUUAUAAGCUUUUAAAGUUGAUUUUGCUCUUGCCGGUAGCAACUUCAAGUGUUGAACAUGUUUUUUCAACAUUGAAAAUUGUUGUGAAGAGUAAUUAUGUAACAAAAUAGGUGAUCAAUGUAACUUAUAUAGAAAGAAUUGUUCUUUUAGCAAUUAACUUAUAUAGAAAACAAUUUUCAUUGUAAUAAUGUUUUUUUUUAGGGAAUGUAUUAUAUCAAAUAAUAUUAUUUCCUAUUUUAAACAUUUUAAUUUCACAUAUAUCAAAUGCUCCCUUAAAACUGAUGUAGCUUUUUUUUUUUUUUAAGGAGAAGAAAACGUGAUGUUAUUCGAUUAUUUUGUUAUAUUCUGGACUCUUUAAUUUAUAUUUUUUUCGUCUCAAUCAUUUAUGAUUGUUAGCCCCAAAGGGUUGUUGGGUCAGCGCACUAUAUGGUCAUCAUAGCUGGAUCAUACCUUUAUUAAAGUUAUUUAUUGAAAAAAGAUAUUUUGUUUUUUAAUCUAAUAGCGAAAUGAUAAUAGUUAAUUCAAUUUUGCACAUAAAUAAAGUAUUUUUUUGAAAGAAGCACAUAAAUAAAGGUUGUUUUUUUUAGGAAACAUAAAUAAAGGUUGUACGGUUUAAAUUCUUGUCACAGUCUAACAAUUUUGAUCUUUUUAUAAGUUCAACGAUUUAUAGACACUGACGAGAGCUUUAUUAAAGUUAAAAUAAAGUGAGUUGCGAUAUAUUGUCAUAUUUAUCAACAACCCUGAUUAAAUGUAAUUAAUCACUUAUUUGAAUUAUAUUAACCAUCAAUUUUAUUGUCAAAAUAACAGAAAUGGUGUCACAAGAGAGUAGAAACAAAAACGAGUAGACCACAUGACAAAUAAGUUUCACAAAACUCUGUCAUAUACAUUACUCUUUGAUCAAUACACAAUGACAAUACAGACAAAAUAUAUGUAAAUUUUGAAUUGUGUAAUAUUUAAUUAGCAAUAUGUAUAUGUACAACAUGGUUGUGGAGAGCCAGAUAGGAGCAAAUAUUUUCAUAUUUUAUAUGUUGCUGUCCUUUUUAAAUUAAUAAAAUCCUCGUUAAGAUGUCAUGUGUGAUUUGUUGAGUUAACAAAAAGCAAUAGAAACUUUAUGGUAUACACUAUACUCAAAUUGCUAUGUUUCGUACCAACUUUAUAAUUAGUACUAAUACAGUUAUGAAUAAAGAAAUGGACUAAACAACAAAGACUUUGAGUUAAAGACAGAGGGACAAGGUAGAGAGAGAUUGAGACAGAAGGUGGAGAUUUGUUCAUACUAUGAUUCUCUCUUUAUCAAAAUUUCACAUGGCAAAAUCCUAGAUCAUGAAAAUGUGUUCUGUGCUGUAAUUCAUUACUUUUCAUUCAUAUUCCAGUCUCUUCACCUCCUUCUCCACGUUUCUAUAAUAAUUAUUCAUCAAUGAGUGUAUACAUAAAUACACUUUAUCUUACUAUCUAUGAAUGAUUCAUUCAAUGAGCAUUAUUAUUUUUACUAUAUAGUUGAUCAUAGAAGAAGGGUCAUUCACAUUAUUUGAUUUGAUUAGUACUUAAUUAUAUGGGAAGUUAUAGAGUCUGCGUGUGUUUCCGGCGGAGGUUUAAGUCCGGGGAGGCAGUGGCGCCUCAGGAAGUCAGGGAGAUCUUCAACAAGUAUGCUGAAGGUGGGGCCCACAUGACUCCGGAACAGCUCCGGAGGUUUCUUGUGGAGGUUCAAGGUGAGGUUGAUGAUGAGAAGGAUGGACUUGAUACACAGAAGGUGGUGGAGGAAGUGUUGCAGAAGCGGCAUCAUAUUACGAAGUUUGCAAGACAUAAUCUCACGCUUGAAGAUUUUCAUCAUUAUCUAUUCUCUACUGAAUUCAACCCUCCUAUUAGAUCUAAGGUAAUGCAUUUGACUUGUUUUUGUCAUGUUGUUUUGAUUCAACGGUUUGACUUUUGGUCAAACAUCAUAUGUUUAUGUUCUGUUUCAAUUUGUUGGAUUAAUUGGAUCUAGUUAAGGUGGAUUUUAGAGGAAAUAAGUGUCUCAUAUUUGGCAUUUUUUAAUGUUAGUUUCAUGUUCUUCCUUGAUUGUGAUAAUUUGAACUUGCUAGUAGUAGUGAUGUUAAUUGUAAACCUCUUCUCUGAUUCAGGUUCAUCAGGAUAUGACAGCUCCAUUGUCGCAUUAUUUUAUAUAUACUGGCCAUAACUCUUAUCUCACUGGAAAUCAACUCAGCAGUGAUUGUAGUGAUAUCCCCAUUAUAAAGGCAUUGCAUAGAGGUGUGAGAGUGGUUGAGCUUGAUAUUUGGCCUAAUUCCACCAAAGAUGAUGUUCUUGUGCUACAUGGAAGGUAAUUAUAUUUUUCGUGGAUAAUGUUUGCACUGACACUUCUAAUUGAAGGAGUGUCCCGGUGUCCGACAUGUGUCAUGUCCGACACUAACACCACACCGAUACUUGUGAUUACAUUGAAUUAUGUCAUUUUCUCAAAAUUUUAUCAGUGUCGACAUUUCCGUGUCAUUGUCGUGUCUGGUGUCUGGUGUCCGUGUUAGUGUCCGUGCUUCAUCCUGAUCAACACAGCAAAAAAUGGUUUAAUUUCUAUUUCCCUUUUCAAUGCAGCUAUAUGAGCAUAAAAAAUCACUACUUAUUUGGAAUGUGUAUAGUGUUGUCUCCCUUUUAAUAAACUCUUAGUUUAUGAUUUUGAGAGUGGAAGUAUAAGUAACUGAUAGAACAAAAAUUUCAUAUUCUGCAAAUCUAUAUAAGCUUGAUGAAUGAGCUAUCAGAGUGUAAAUCACAAGAAUUUAUAUCUAUGCACCAAAAGGAUCUCUUCUGCUAAGGACUGUUCAUGAUUCGGUUCAUGAAGGAAGACUGAACCGGAAUGAACCUUUACAACAGUUUAGUAAAACUGAACUGAACCAUCAAUGAUAUAAAUCAGUUUGUUAAACCGAACUGUUUCUUUGUGAACCUUGCACCUUUUCGAACUGGACAAGCUAAAGGCACACACCGUGCGCAUUAACUGAUUUUGGAAUUUUAACAAGAACCAAAAACCGAACUAUUAAACCAAACUGCACCGCACCGAGAAAACUGAAUUUUGAUCGACAGUUCAUGAAUUGAACUGAACUGAGUAAUAAAAACACCAGUUCAGUUCUUGAACUGUCCGUCAUAAUUUGCUUCUUUUCAGUUCGGAUCGGUUUAACGGUUUAGUUUUUUGUUUUUUUUAACAGUCCUAUUGUGCUGGUAAUCUUUUUCUUUGACUUAUAAUUUUUUGCUGGUAGUUCAUGCUAAAUACCUAACUUUUGCAUAUAUUCUACUUGUGUUGACCUGUGAAUGUAGGACAUUGACCACACCUGUUGAUUUGAUCAAAUGUUUGAAAUCCAUUAAGGAACACGCGUUCUCGGCAUCUCCGUACCCAGUUGUAAUAACUCUGGAAGAUCAUCUUACCUCAGACCUUCAAGCAAAAGCUGCUCAGGUAAUUUCUUAUAGGUUUAACCAUGCUUUCAAUUUCUGUAAUUAUCUCGAAUUUUAUUUUAAGUUUCUGUAUCCUCUUUGAGGACUAAAGGCAUGCAGUUUUAUAACUUGUAGAGACAUAAAAGUGGAUACAGCGACUAAAAAUAAAAAGUGUAAAUUUUAUAGGGGACUAAAAACAUGUUUAAUUGUUUGUUAUAUCUGAAAGGAGUAAAUCACUCGGGUUCACAAUUUUUUUGGAAUUAAUCAUCAUUCUCUUUCGACGUUAUUAGAUGAUUACUCAAACAUUUGGAGAUAUGCUGUUCUGUCCAAAUGAUGAAAAUUUAAACAAUAUUCCAUCACCUGAAGAAUUGAAGUAUAGGAUCAUGAUAUCAACAAAACCUCCAAAAGAGUACUUAAAUUCCAAAAGUGUUAGGGAGAAUUCUGAACAAUUGCUGAAAUCAAAAUCAAAGGAUUCUGAUGAAGACGAAUGGGGAAAGGAAGUCACUGAUGUUGUACAUGCACAAAAUGAAGACGACAAGGUGAGAUAAACUAAGAAUUUCACUUUAUAGAAGCCUCUAUUUUCACAAGAUAAUGACAUAUUCGUUUAUGCUGUUUUUGUAUAAGUUAUAAACUGUUCUCGUAAGCUAUCCUGAACAUGCUAUAAGAUGUUUCCAAAAUCUCUUUCAAACAGUCUUACAAAGAGUUCAUGUUAGCAGAUAAGUUCAAAUAAGCCAAUUCUAACAGUCUUGUUUUUUUCUUUCUAUUUUCUUACAGGGUGACUGUGACUCACAUCAACAGAAUGAUGAUGAUGAUGAAUCAAAUGAUGAUGAAUAUGAAACAAAUCACGAGAGUGAGUAUAAGCGUCUAAUCGCUAUUCAUGCUGGAAAACCUAAGGGUAGUUUGAAGGAAGCCUUAAAAGUUGAAGAAGAUAAAGUGAGACGCCUUAGCUUAAGUGAACAAGCUCUUGAGAAGGCUGCUGAGUCGCUCGGAACUGAUCUUAUUAGGUAGCAUCUGAUUUCAUAUCAAAUAUCAUUUAUACGAUUAUUAAUUACCACUAGUGACCAUUUUACAGUUGUUAUCGAGAGAAUUUAAAUUAAGUGUACCUUGAGGUUACAAAGUCAUCAGCGUUAUAAUAGAUCAUGUAGCUUACCACUAAGCUGAUUAUAACUAAUUUCCUAGCUUAAGUUUACAAGUGAUUUACUACUCUUCCACUUUUCCUUAAACUCUUCUACAUUCUAAUUCUAAUUGUAAUGCUUUCUAUUUUGUAUGAUAGGUUCACCCAGAAAAACUUUUUGAGGAUAUAUCCGAAGGGUACACGUGUCACCUCGUCGAACUACAAGCCACUGAUUGGCUGGAUGCAUGGUGCUCAAAUGGUUGCAUUCAAUAUGCAAGGAUAUGGCAGAAAUCUUUGGUUGAUGCAUGGAAUGUUUAGAUCCAAUGGGGAAUGUGGUUAUGUGAAAAAACCAGACUUUCUAAUGAAUGUAGGUCCAAAUAAUGAGGUAUUCAAUCCUAAAGAUAAGUUGGAAGUGAAGAAGACGCUUAAGGUGAGGACUGAGGAUAUUAUCAAAAUGAAAAAGUUAGCAAAAUGAACAUUUUUCUUGCACUGUGUUUAAUUUAUUCUCACUGGAUAGGUUAAAAUAUAUGUGGGAGAUGGAUGGAGUAUGGAUUUCAAACAAACUCACUUUGACUCAUAUUCUCCACCAGAUUUUUAUGCCAGGGUAAGUUUUUUCUAUUUAUUUAUAAUUAUGCUUUGAUUUACAAUAUAACUGCUUAAUUCUUUAUGCACUAAUAGUACUUAUGUAAUCUUUAAUCUUUCACCACUUGAAGCUUAAAUAACUUUAAGGAUAUUAUUUCUCUUUAAUGAAAGUUGUGAGAAUUAAUACUAUGAUUCUUUCUAGAGUACAUUUGUUAAGGUCUAUUUACAAGUUAUUUGGUCUUGUCUAAUGACAUACAUACUUGUGUAAAGUGAGGUUAUCAAAUUGAGUUUAAAUCAUGAACCAGAAAACCUAUACAUAGGGAUUCAUUUGAAAGAAUCAGGGCUCAUCACUGUGAGUCGGGAUUCAUCAUAACGAAUCGGGAUUUAAAAUGAGAUUCAUAUCAAAAUUAGAUACAUACCAGAGACUCAUAUGAAUUGAGUUAAGUUUUGUAUCAAAUUGAGAUAUGACUUGCAUGUAUCAUAAGAUACUAAUAACCAUUUUUGCAAGAGCGUGCGCAUAAGCUGUUUACAGCACAUAUGAUAAUCUUGAAGGAUAACUUACAUGAAACGACUCACAAUUUAUAUGAAAACAGUUUAACCACGUUCUUUCGACGAUUACAGAAAUAGCUUAUUCAUAAGUGUUUAUAUCAUAUAUGAUAAUCACUUAUUCAAUAUGCGUUUAAUUAAGUCGUUUACCAAAACAAACCAUCGGUACUUCUUGCAUGAGCUUACAUGUGAAUUUGUGAGGCAGGUUGGCAUAGCUGGAGUGCCGGCUGAUGUAACAAUGAAGAAAACAAAGACAAUAGAGGAUAACUGGAUACCUACUUGGGAAGAAGAAUUCACCUUCCCUUUAACUGUGCCUGAACUUGCUUUGCUUAGAGUGGAAGUACAUGAAUAUGACAUGUCUGAGACAGAUGAUUUUGCUGGCCAAACUUGUUUACCAAUCACUGAACUAAAACAAGGGAUCCGCGCCGUUCCACUUUACGAUCGAAAAGGAGAGAAAUACAACUCAGUUAGGCUUCUUAUGAAAUUUGAUUUUAUUUAAGCUGUUCUUCUCUACUUGGGAGUAUAUUUAUUUUAUAUUAUGAUGAAGAAUGUUGAAACUUGUUUUCCAUGUCACACUUGAUUCAUGUGGAUUUGGCCUAACCAUGUAAGUAAAUAAUAUUAAAAAUUAAAAAUAGUAAUAGGAUUUUAUGUUGCAACUCAUGCUUCAUUAUGGCAGCGUUUACCUCUAUUGAAGUUUGAGUGGUUUUGGAGUUAUAAUUCUCUUUUGUUUUCUGCAUUGUAAAGCUAUAAUUCUGUUAUGUUACCAACUUAUUAGCAACAAAAUAACCCGCUCAUUUGAUCCUUGUAUAUGUAUUCCUCUGAUAGACCAAAAUGAAUAAGUUAAAUUAAGUAAACAUAAAAUUCUUAAUGAAUGAACAAUGGUACUCAAAUCAUAAAAGAAAGACCAUAAAAGAGAGCAAUGAUACUCAAAUCAUUAUAAAAAAAAAUACCAUAAAAGAGAGCGCAGGAUUGUUGCAAACUUGCUAUAAUCCUGUUCAAUAAAAUUAAUUUUAUUAUAUUUUGAUUGUUCUAACAUUUGAAUGUCUACAUAUAUAAUCACACACGUUUUUUUUCUUCCUGUGUAACCACUAAAUUUAUGGAUAUUGGGACUAAGGCUAUGUUUGGAUUGAUGGAGAGUGGUGGAAUGGGAUGGAAUAGAGUCAGAUUCCAUUGUUUGGUUUUGCAAAAUUGUAAUGGAAUGGAAUGGAAUGUGAUGGAACUCAUUCCAUCCAAUACCACUCAUUCAUCCAAUUUUCCAUUCCUCCCAAAUUGGGGUGUAUCCAAUGGAAUGGAACACAUUAAUAACUCAAUUACAUUUUUAUCCCUACUAUUUCUAUUUCAUUAGCCACUCCUCAUUCCAUGUUUCUUUUUUCCAUUGAUUGUUUCUUGUUUAUAAAUCUCUUUCUUCUUCAUUCAUAUUAAAGUGUCACGAAAAUUGACUAUAGUAGUUACAAAUGGAAAAACACAUAGGUUUCUUAUUUAUAAACCUCUUUGAGAUCGAUUUUGAAUUAUAUCUAAAAACUAUUGAUAUUGAAUUAUAUAUAAAAAUACGAUGAAUAGUAAUUUGCAACUAAUGUAACCUACAUAGGCUAGAAAAUAGAUGAAUUUUAACGUGUAACCUAUAUUAUUAUUGUUUUAUUUAACCUGACAAAUGGAAAUACUGUAGUUGCAAAUUAUGCCAGAACCGAAAUUUAAAAAUGUUUUGUUCAUAUCUUAAUUUGUGGUUAUACUUGUGUUUAUUCCUUUACUUGUUUAUUUUGUGCUAUUUAUGAAUAAUGUCAAAAUAACUACGUAUUGAUUGAAUUGAGUUGAGAAUUCAACAUAGUGAUGUUUUUAAGUAAAGGGUAAAAAUGAAAUAAAAAAGUUAUAAAUCAUUCCGUUCCAUUCACUUUCCAAACAAUGGAGUGGAAAAUUAGUUCAAUUCCGUAGUAAAAUAUCCAAACAAUAGGAUGGAACCUUUGUUCCGCUCCGUUCCACUCCGCUCCAUUCCGUUCCGCUCCGUUAGUUUCAUGUUAUCCAAACAGAGCCUAAAGAAAGCAAGGUAGAGAGAUGGAAGAGAAAUGAUAGGGUCACACCUACUAACACACUCUUUUAAAGUUUUAACACACCCAACAAGAAUUAGUCAUGUGUCCCACUUUUUUAAUUCAAUUAACUUGAAAUCUGUUCAACCAGUUUUUAAACAUUUGUUUUUUAUUUUUUUAAUAUUUUAGUACAACAGUUGGAGAGAGAAAGAGAAGAAAAAAACGAAGAGAGAGAAGAGUGUUGAAAAAUAAUCUGGGUCUUCAAUUUCGAUCUUCAAGCUUGAAAGCUUAAGAACCUAAAAUUUAAAGAGUCACACGUGUCUCUCUCUUGUUCCAGUUUCCCCAGCUAUGUCACCUUUCUCUCUUCUAUCUUAAAUGGUUUUGUUCAUCGUCCAUCCACUACGAGCGUCAUCAUUUACCUGGCGUUUUGAUUAUGUGAUUUGGAGAAAAUUCAUGCAAGUAAUUUUUAACUAAUGGAGUAAAAUAUGUCAUCCCUGGAUAAGUACUUAUAAAAAACCAUUAAAAUAACGAAAGCAAUGGAUCUCUUGUAACUCCAUUUUACUCUUUUAAAAGUGUCACAUAUGCAUAAUGCUUGUAUAUAGUUAACCCAAUUUUAGUUUAUAUAGAGAGAUAGAUAGAUAAAUAUAGAAGAUAGGUAGAUAGAUAUUGAUAGAUUCACAUAGUCAUAUGCACUAUAAAUCUAUAUAAUAUUUUAACUAAUAAAUGAUAAUAUAUACUCCCUCCGUUCUAAUUUAUAAGCAAAAAAACAUUAAUUCACACUUAUUAAGAAAACUAACAUUUAGUAAUUUGAGGUAUAAUUUUUUCGUGUUCUCCUUGAAAUAAGUUUCAUGGAAAGAAGUAAAAAUAAUUCUCAUUGGCUAAAAAUUAUGGAGAAAAUAAAAAGGAGAAUAAAUUGAAUGCAAUUUGUAUUUAAUUUUACAUUGGAAAAGAUGAUUUGUUUGAAAAAACAUAAUAAUGACAUAAAAGUUGGUCUUUUUUACUUAUAUUUUGAGACAAAGAAUACGAGAUUUUUUUGCUUAUAUUUUAAGACGGAGGGAGUAUGUUUUUAGAUAAAUGUUAGUGUUUAGUAUAUUGUUGGAGGGGAAGGGGUAAUAUUAUCAGCAGGGAUCAAAUCUUAACCUCUUCUUAAUCUCCAAUUUUCCAACCCUUUGACCACACAAUCAAUGAUUAAUGCAAAACAAUUAGUUGUUGGUUAACGCAUAAACAUAUAUUGCAUUAACCAAAGGAAGAAAUUUUUUAAAGUAGGAGAAUGGUAUUGGUUUAUAUUGUAAAUUUUUUAAAAAUAUAUAUAUUUAUAAUAAUUAAUAUGUUUUUUAUUUACUUUUUCAACAAAAUAAUGAUAGUAGCACUUUUUUAUACAUAUUUUAGAGAAAAUCUAUUUUUUUUCUCUCAUAUUUUAUCAUGUGUUUUUCAAUAUCUUGAUUAAGACGUAACACUUUCAAAGGUAGAAGAUCAACCAUUAGUGUUAAAAUGAGAGUAUAAGUUGAAAAUGGCAAGGAAGUAGAUACCCUCAUUUAUAUAUUAUUGGAAUUAGAAUAAGAACCAUUAGAGAAAAGGAGAAAAAGAAUGGACAACAAAAGCUAUGAGAAUGUCUUUACCUAUUCAUUUUGUUCUCCUGCUAUUAAUACAAUUUUUUUUUUGAAACAAAAAUGAAUGUGGCUUUCCCUAAAAAAAAAUCAGCUUGAGCUUAUUUUUUAAAGAAUAAUUAAAAAACUCAAGCUUAUUUAAAACAUUUGUUGAUAAAGUUUAUUUUUUGGUAAAAUAAUUCAUAAUUUCCUUUAAAAAGAUAGGUAUUCUUUGACCAAAAAAAAAAAAUAGGUAUCCUCUAGUGUGAAGAGAGUUAUUUUAAGGGAUAGACAAAACCCAACUCUUAAAUUUUCCUCAAAACUUUCUUACUUUUUGAACAUGAGAAAUCAUGGUUUUGCUUCCUAACAUUAACAAAUUUAAUUACAAUAUAUUUUCUACAAAGAAGAAAUAAACAUGCAGGUGGUAAAAAAAAAGUAUAGAAAAUGUUCCACUUAUCUUGUUGACAUUGCCGCAUAACUUGAAUCUCCAAUUUAUGACCUGAGAUAAAGAUUUUGUAAUUGUAAAAAAAGUGUGAAACUUUCUUAGUCCUUGAAGUGCCACAUCAUCAUAAUUCUAGCUUAAUAUAGUUCCAUAUUUUGUCUACAAAGAUGUUAAUCUAGAGAUGCCACAUCAUCAAGUUUGCUUUUUAUAUAGAAGAUAUAGAUAGAUAGUUAUCCGUAGUAGUUUUAUGAAGUUAUUAGUAGUUAUAAAAAGAUAGUUACAUAUUGGUGUGUUAUAUUAAGAUAGUUACUUAUCUCUUGUGAGGAAAACCUUGAUGAGGCUGACUACAUUUUUCCUUCAGAAUCUCACGUCGCAGCUUUAAGGUUUGCGACGCGAGACGAUUCUUUGCAUUUUUUCUCUUGCCUUUUAUGUUUUUCGGAUAUUUUCUUGUCCUUGCAUUUCAUGACUUUUUAUUAUGAAUUCUCACAUUCACAACACUGUAUCACAAAAGAACUGACUCGAUCACUCAAAAAACAUAAUUUAAAAUUUGGAUGAGGUUAAGAAAUUGAUGUCAGCAUGCGAAGUGAGCUUUUGUUGGAACUGUUUUUAACUGCUUAGCUAUGUUUUUUUGUUACAAUGACACAACGCAAUCAUUGCAUAUAUAGCUUUAUGAUGCAUUAAAACAAUAAAGUUACAAAUGCAUCUUAUAUUCUUUUGCAGCCUGAUAAUAUUUACUAAUCAGUUUUGUAAGGUUGACUUAGAUUCGAUCUAAAUUAUACUUAUGUGUGUGGAUCAAUUUGGUUUAAGUUUUUUCACAACUAAUUGUAAAAAACUAAAAGUUGAAUCCGUCUUGCAAUAAUAAUGAGUAUUCUAAUUAAUAGUUUCAAGUAGGCUUAAAUAUGUAUUUCACUAGAUCGUCCAUCCGUGCUGCCGCACGGGUCAUAUACAUUGUAAGUAUUGUAGACAAAAACAAAAUUUUAUAAUACAGUCCCAACUUAUAAUUUUAAAUACAACUAUAGAAGGAAAUUGUAUAAUUGAUUCAAAAUAUUUUUAGUGACAUUGAGCAGCAAUCUAUAAUUUAAUAAAAGAAGAGGUUUUGCCAAAAGCACUGCACACAUCUCUUUUUCUCGUGAGUCAAUUACAUUGAAAAUUCAUAUAUUAUAUAUCACUAACAAAGAUACAAAAAUUAUGUUGAAAGGAAUUUGUAUAAUUCAUUCAAAAUAUGUUUAGUUAACUUUAAUAUAUAAGAAGAUGUAUCGAGAAGUUGAGAAGGGGGAAAAUUCAAUAAGGUUAAACAAAGGAAUUUAGAAUCAGGGUUAAAAUAGUAAAUUUAUACAAUAAGUUUAAGUUAAAAUUAGGGCUAAAAUAUGCUUCUGUGUUAGCCUUAAUAUAUAAGAAGAUAGAAGAAAAUUGUAUAAUUGAUUCAAAAUAUUUUUAGUGACAUUGAACAGCAAUCUAUAAUUUAAUAACAGAAAAGAAUUUGCCAAAAGCACUGCACACAUCUCUUUUUCUCGUGAGUCAAUUACAUUGAAAAUUCAUAUAUUAUAUAUCACUAACAAAGAUACAAAAAUUAUGUUGAAAGAAAUUUGUAUAAUUGAUUCAAAAUAUGUUUAGUUAACUUUAAUAUAUAAGAAGAUCUAUCGAGAAAUUGAGAAGGGGGAAAAUUCAAUAAGGUUAAACAAAGGAAUUUAGCAUCAUGGUUAAAAUAGUAAAUUUAUGCAAUAGGUUUAGGUUAAAAUUAGGGCUAAAAUAUGCUUAUGUGUUAACUUUAAUAUAUAAGAAGAUGUAUCGAGAAAUUGAGAAGGAGGAAAAUUCAAUAAGGUUAAACAAAGGAAUUUAGCAUCAGGGUUAAAAUAGUAAAUUUAUGCAAUAGGUUUAGGUUAAAAUUAGGGCUAAAAUAUGCUUCUGUGUUAACUUUAAUAUAUAACAAGAUGUAUCGAGAAAUUGAGAAGGAGGAAAAUUCAAUAAGGUUAAACAAAGGAAUUUAGCAUCAGGGUUAAAAUAGUAAAUUUAUGCAAUAGGUUUAGGUUAAAAUUAGGGCUAAAAUAUGCUUCUGUGUUAACUUUAAUAUAUAAGAAGAUAGUAAAUUUAUGCAAUAGGUUUAGGUUAAAAUUAGGGCUAAAAUAUGCUUCUGUGUUAACUUUAAUAUAUAAGAAGAUGUAUCGAGAAAUUGAGAAGGAGGAAAAUUCAAUAAGGUUAAACAAAGGAAUUUAGCAUCAAGGUUAAAAUAGUAAAUUUAUGCAAUAGGUUUAGGUUAAAAUUAGGGCUAAAAUAUGCUUCUGUGUUAACUUUAACUAGACCAUUGACCCGUGCUAACGCACGUGUCAUUUAAAAAAUUAAUACUCAUAGAAAAAAUAAGACACUGUAGGUCGCUUGAAUGUAAAAAUUGUCGUGAAUCAAAGCAAAAUGUCAAUUACCAUAGACUUUGUUAUUGUUCCAUAAUUCUAGUACGUAGUACCUGUUACUUUAACAUAACAUAUAAUUUUAAAAGGGAAACUGAAGUUCGUUGACAUGCAAAUAGUUUCAAUAAGUAAGAAAAUGAAUAGUACACAAAAAAGUCCUACACAUUACGGAAAACUUCUCUGUAGACCACACUUGAUGCAACAUCGGUAUCAUCACCGUCGUCAUCAUUAAUCAAUAUCUUUAAACCACCCCUCAAAGUAACCCGCGAUAUUGCGACGUACAACUGUCCAUGUGAAAAAUAACAAAGAUGAAUCCAAAACGACAUCUAAAAAUUUCAAUAAAGAGAUAGCUACCUCAGUUGACUCAGUCAUGCUUUCAAUUGUCAUUCGGUUAGUGUUGAGCAAGUCAUCUGAUAAAGACGCGGGGCUGUUCGUUGAAAUUUGGCUGACACUUCGGGUGAACUAUAUUGAUGCAUUUUUCAUUCUAAUAAAAGGGCACCAAUGUUAAUAGAAGAGUGGUGAGACCUCCAGACAACUUAAUUACAACCAAAAAAACUUGCCUUUAUUCUAAAGCAUAUAAAAAUGUAAAUGGUUACCAUGUCAUGUACGCAGCGACAUCAGGCAAAUCGCCAUUAAGUAUCAGCUUAGUCCCAUUAAAGGCAUUAGCAACUCCCAUAGCACCUAAUUUUUUUAAAAAUCAACAGCAAGUGAACAUAAUUUCACAUUUCAUUGUUGAUAUCAGCAGAAAGCACAAACUUAAAACACGACAUACCUAACUACAUGUGUGUCUUGCAAAACUGCAAUAUUAAUACAGUAGGUGUGUCGUUAUCAUGGUUGCCAAAAAAGGUCACAAUUUUGUCAACAUGUUCACCCCAAAGAGAGCAAUGCAAGCGGUUGUUUCUGUAAUAAAAUAUUACCAAAAUAUCAAUUCAGGAACAUAAGGUAUAUUAAAAUUAUAUUACAACCAGGUACAAAGAAAGAGACAAAUCUUACUCAAGAUCUUCUAAAGUGAGAUCAGUAACCCUACUUUUCCUUCCGUCCUUUUCAGUUUCCCUUACAUCACCUCUUUCAAUUACAUGACCAAUAACAUCUGAAAUUACGUAUACAAAAGCAAAAACAAAUGUAUGAAAUUCCUAAACGAAUGCUUAUAGGUAGAAAUAAUGUACAACACACAUUCAGAAUUGAAGUCUUACCCGUAGAUACUUCCUCGACAGUUGAAGAGAGAAUUUCAUUGAAUGGCUUGAACUAAAAAACGUUCAUAGGGAUAGCAGGCGAGUGUACUUUGGUAAAAGUUGAAUUGUGCAUCAUACUAAGCUUAUGUUUGUGUGAAGUUACCUUAUAAGGACUUUCAUUAAAACCUACAAUUGCAUUUUCAAGCUGAAAUGUACCCCCUUCUUGAACCAUGGACCUGAACUUUGCCACCAAAUCUUUUCUACCUGUGGCGUGAAUACGUCCACCCUAUUGACGACAACAACAACAUUAAACAGCUGGUUAAAUUAGAUAACUAAAAAACAACAAUGACAUUAGUUUAAUUUUAAAGCUAAGAGUGCAAACAUGUAGAAACCUUUUCAUCAACCAAAUGUGAGCAACUCGCACACACAUCUUGAGAUUCUUUCUUCCUCCAGAAACAGCUGAGAUUGGAGUGUAUUUGGAAGACAUCAUUAGCUUGUUUUUUCCUUUCCAAGAAAGAGGAUGCUUAUUUAGAUUGAGAUGGUUUGGCUAAUAUGUUAUGAUAUAUUUAUAGGAAAAAGGUGGAAUACGUGUGAGUAGGAUAUGUCGGUUGAGCAAUAAAGAGUAUUAGUUAUCAGGAUAAGCACAAAAUAGUGGAACAAAAUUAGGAAAUGGCCAACAUUUUAGGAUAAAGAUUAAUAUGAAUAAAAUGAAAUUAAUAUUGUUGAUGGGGCACUUUAUUUUACUUAAGAAUUGACAUUUUUUUGUACUUAAGAAUUACCAUAGUUGAUUCGCCAAAACAUAUUUUAGAGAUGUGGAUGAAAUGUGUAGUAGUUACUUGAAUGAGAGGAAUUAGGAUUUUUAGUUUGUUUCCACCCAAAACAUAUUUUAGAGAUGUGGAUGAAAUCCCCUACUUAUUUGAAUGAGAGAAAUAAGGAUUUUAGUUUGUUUCCACCAAAAAGUUACUUUAGAGAUGUGGAUGAAAUCUCUUAGUUACUUGAAUGAGAAGAAUUAGGAUUUUUAGUUUGUUUCCACCGAAAACAUAUUUUAGAGAUGUGGAUGAAAUCCCCUACUUAUUUGAAUGAGAGAAAUUAGGAUUUUAGUUUGUUUCCACCAAAAAGUUAGAUUAAAGAUGUGGAUGAAAUCUCUUAGUUACUUGAAUGAGAGAAAUAAGGAUUAGGAUUUAAGUUUGUUUCCACCCAAAACAUAUUUUAGAGAUGUGGAUGAAAUCUUUAGUAGUUACUUGAAUAAGAGGAAUUAUGAUUUUUAGUUUGUUUCCACCCAAAACAUAUUUUAGAGAUGUGGAUGAAAUCUUUAGUAGUUACUUGAAUGAGAGGAAUUAUGAUUUUUAAUUUGUUUCCACCCAAAACAUAUUUUAAAGAUGUGGAUAAAAUCCCCUGAUUAUUUGAAUGAGAGAAAUAAGGAUUUUAGUUUGUUUCCACCAAAAACUUAGUUAAGAGAUGUGAAUGAAAUCUCUUAGUUACUUGAAUGAGAGAAAUAAGGAUUAGGAUUUAAGUUUGUUUCCACCCAAAACAUAUUUUAGAGAUGUGGAUGAAAUCUUUAGUAGUUACUUGAAUGAGAGGAAUUAGGAAUUUUAGUUUGUUUCCACCCAAAACAUAUUUUAGAGAUGUGGAUGAAAUCUUUAGUAGUUACUUGAAUGAGAGGAAUUAUGAUUUUUAGUUUGUUUCCACCCAAAACAUAUUUUAAAGAUGUGGAUGAAAUCUCCUGAUUAUUUAAAUGAGAGAAAUAAGGAUUUUAGUUUGUUUCCACCAAAAACUUAGUUAAGAGAUGUGAAUGAAAUCUCUUAGUUACUUGAAUGAGAGAAAUUAGGAUUAGGAUUUUAGUUUGUUUCCACCAAAAACAUAUUUUAGAGAUUAGGAUUAGUAAUUGUUAGUAAUAAUGUUAAGAGGAGACGUUACACCGCUAUGCUACUAAAUUGAUUCUAGUAAUUGUUACUAAUAAUGUUACUAAAAUGCUUCAGUAACACAGUCAUGCUACUAAAUUGAUUCAGCAACACAAAAACAAACACAAAUAUAUAAAUAAAAAAGCAAAGCAAGCAAGGCUAAAUUAUUUAUGAAAUUCAAGGGACAUUUGCUAAAUUCAAAGACAAAAAAAAUAGAUGCUUCCAAAACUCUAAGAAACUAAAACUUAAAAUUCAAAUUGGAAAGGUCUUGCACAAUUUAUCUAAACAUGGACUAAUUGUAAAUAACAUCAAGGUAGAUGGUAUCAUGUGACCCAACCAUCGGAGCACCCCCUCUGAUCUUCACACCGUCACCCACAAAAACCAAGGUCAGGCACCAAGAUCGAUUCCGUAAAAGUCACGAAUUGCUUUCCAUCCCUUUGUGAGAAAAAAUGCUUCGUUUACUCUAUCGACCAAUAAUUCAAACUUGUUGGACUUAGGAUCAAUCAAUAUUGCAUAGCGCCCAAUUUGAUCUCCGAAAUCACCGCCAAACAUGUUUGGCAAGCAUACUGCACCCUAAAAAAAUAACAAACAAAAACAUCACAAACGUUGAUAAAAUAGAAUGCAAAUAAUUGAGAAUAGGUAUAUUUCGCAAAAAACACAUACAGCAUCAAUGUCAUAUUCAACGAUAUAUGAUAUGUAUUUCAGUCUGAGCUUGUUGAUUGCUUUGUCAAGAUCGGAAAAAGGGUUUUUCACCAACGGACCUACAAAAGAUUGAAAGGGAUUGAAAGAAUUAUUUAUACUUUAAAACAGUGAGGAAUAAGAGCAAAAAUCUAUAUAUUUAGUUUAAACCAGAGUGGAAUGAAGAUAUGGUUACCAGUGAGGCAGUGGUAUGACAGUAAAGUCUGAAUGUUUCUGGAAGCCAUGUUGAAAAGAGAUUUCGGUUUAGGAGAAAAGAUAAAAAUAUAUUGGUGAGGGUUUGGAGGAGAGAAAUAUAUGGUUUUAAAGAGAGAUUUCGGUUUAGGAGAAAGGAUUAAAAUAUAUUGGUUAGGGUUUGGAGGAGGGGAAUUAGGAAAUAUGAUUUAGGAGGAGUGAAGUUAGAAGGUUAGGGUUUGGAGGAGGAGAAUUAGGAAAUAUGGUUAGGUUUUAAAGGAGGGAAAAAUUGCUAAAAUAAUAGGGUUAAAAUAUUAGGUUAAAAUUAGGGCAACCAAGCUUUGUUUAGGAAUAAGAAGAUAUAUAACAAGAUGUAUCGAGAAAUUGAGAAGGAGGAAAAUUUAAUAAGGUUAAACAAAGGAAUUUAGCAUCAGGGUUAAAAUAGUAAAUUUAUGCAAUAGGUUUAGGUUAAAAUUAGGGCUAAAAUAUGCUUCUGUGUUAACUUUAAUAUAUAAGAAGAUAGGUUUAGGUUAAAAUUAGGGCUAAAAUAUGCUUCUGUGUUAACUUUAUUAUAUAAGAAGAUGUAUCGAGAAAUUGAGAAAGGGAAAAAUUCAAUAAGGUUAAACAAAGGAAUUUAGCAUCAGGGUUAAAAUAGUAAAUUUAUGCAAUAGGUUUAGGUUAAAAUUAGGGCUAAAAUAUGCUUCUGUGUUAACUUUAAUAUAUAAGAAGAUGUAUCGAGAAAUUGAGAAGAAGGAAAAUUCAAUAAGGUUAAACAAAGGAAUUUAGCAUCAGGGUUAAAAUAGUAAAUUUAUGCAAUAGGUUUAGGUUAAAAUUAGGGCUAAAAUCUGCUUCUGUGUUAACUUUAAUAUAUAAGAAGAUAGUAAAUUUAUGCAAUAGGUUUAAGUUAAAAUUAGGGCUAAAAUAUGCUUCUGUGUUAACUUUAAUAUAUAAGAAGAUGUUUCGAGAAAUUGAGAAGAAGGAAAAUUCAAUAAGGUUAAACAAAGGAAUUUAGCAUCAGGGUUAAAAUAGUAAAUUUAUGCUAUAGGUUUAGGUUAAAAUUAGGGCUAAAAUAUGCUUCUGUGUUAACUUUAAUAUAUAAGAAGACGUAUCGAGAAAUUGAGAAGGAGGAAAAUUCAAUAAGGUUAAACCAAGGAAUUUAGCAUUAGGGUUAAAAUAGUAAAUUUAUGCAAUAGGUUUAGGUUAAAAUUAGGGCUAAAAUAUGCUUCUGUGUUAACUUUAAUAUAUAAGAAGAUAGUAAAUUUAUGCAAUAGGUUUAGGUUAAAAUUAGGGCUAAAAUAUGCUUCUGUGUUAACUUUAAUAUAUAAGAAGAUGUAUCGAGAAAUUGAGAAGGAGGAAAAUUCAAUAAGGUUAAACAAAUGAAUUUAGCAUCAGGGUUAAAAUAGUAAAUUUAUGCAAAAGGUUUAGGUUAAAAUUAGGGUUAAAAUAUGCUUCUGUGUUAACUUUAAUAUAUAACAAGAUGUAUCGAGAAAUUGAGAAGGAGGAAAAUUCAAUAAGGUUAAACAAAGGAAUUUAGCAUCAGGGUUAAAAUAGUAAAUUUAUGCAAUAGGUUUAGGUUAAAAUUAGGGCUAAAAUAUGCUUUUGUGUUAACUUUAAUAUAUAUAAGAAGACGUAUCGAGAAAUUGAGAAGGAGGAAAAUUCAAUAAGGUUAAACCAAGGAAUUUAGCAUCAGGGUUAAAAUAGUAAAUUUAUGCAAUAGGUUUAGGUUUAAAUUAGGGCUAAAAUAUGCUUCUGUGUUAACUUUAAUAUAUAAGAAGAUAGUAAAUUUAUGCAAUAGGUUUAGGUUAAAAUUAGGGCUAAAAUAUGCUUCUGUGUUAACUUUAAUAUAUAAGAAGAUGUAUUGAGAAAUUGAGAAGGAGGAAAAUUCAAUAAGGUUAAACAAAGGAAUUUAGCAUCAGGGUUAAAAUAGUAAAUUUAUGCAAUAUGUUUAGGUUAAAAUUAGGGCUAAAAUAUGCUUCUGUGUUAACUUUAAUAUAUAAGAAGAUGUAUCGAGAAAUUGAGAAGGGGGAAAAUUCAAUAAGGUUAAACAAAGGAAUUUAGCAUCAGGGUUAAAAUAGUAAAUUUAUGCAAUAGGUUUAGGUUAAAAUUAGGGCUAAAAUAUGCUUCUGUGUUAACUUUAACUAGAUCGUCCACCCGUGCUGCCGCACGGAUCAUAUACAUUGUAAGUAUUGUAGACAAAAGCAAAAUUUUAUAAUACAGUCCCAACUUAUAAUUUUAAUGUCAUAAUUUGAAAUACAACUAUAGAAGGAAAUUGUAUAAUUGAUUCAAAAUAUUUUUAGUGACAUUGAGCAGCAAUCUAUAAUUUAAUAACAUAAGAGAUUUUGCCAAAAACACUGCACACAUCUCUUUUUCUCGUGAGUCAAUUACAUUGAAAAUUCAUAUAUUAUAUAUCACUAACAAAGAUAAAAAAAUUAUGUUGAAAGCAAUUUGUAUAAUUGAUUCAAAAUAUGUUUAGUUAACUUUAAUAUAUAAGAAGAUGUAUCGAGAAAUUGAGAAGGGGAAAAAUUCAAUAAGGUUAAACAAAGGAAUUUAGAAUGAGGAAGAACCUCCUUCAAUUGGUGUUCGUGUGUUGCUGGGAAUUGCAGUUGAAUCUGCAAGGAAACUAAGAGGGAAAAGGAAGAAGAUGAAGCCAGGGGUAUUUUGGUCUUUUCGCAAGUUACAUCAACUAAUCGGUGAUGUGGCACUGAUUAACUAGGUUGAGGGACCAAUUUUUAAGUGAUUAAUUUUUAGGAGGGUAAAUUGCCAGAAUUAAUGGAUACAGGGACCAUUUUUUAAAUGACCCCUAAUUACAGGGAUGAAAUACGUAUUUAAGCCGUUUCAAGUACAGAGUAAGUUGAAAUAUUUAAUCUCUGCAAGGAGUAUUUCACAUCACUUUUUAUCCUUUCCACUAAAUAUGAAUGCUUCUUUUCCACUUAACUUUACCAGCACAUCACAUUGAAUAUUCCUUACUUUAAGUAGAUAAUUAUAUGAUUCUACUUUCAUCUAAUUCUAAGGGACAAAUUAAAGUCUUUUGAUAUAUAUGACUUGAAAUCAGUUACCAGAGUUAUUCCUCAUUGAACUGUAACAUCAAAAAGAGUACCAACACACAAACUCAAGCAAUCUCUUUCUUCUUUACAUAGAUAAUAUAGUUAACAAAAACAAAUUACUUUCAGCUUUUUAUUCACCUUCCUUAGAAACAUGGUUAUAGUAUAAAUUCUCGCUUUAGUUAGAAGCUAUCGGGAAAAACACAAGUUUCAUAUUGAAGAGCGAUAAAGUCUAAAAUAGUUUAUAAAGAGUGACACUACUCAUCUAACAAGGCGAUUUUAUAAGGAUGAGUUAGACAUAAUAUAAAAAUCGAAUAUUGAUAUCAGAGUUUAUCCAUUCGGUUCAUCCACCAAAAUAUGAACUCACUAAUCCAAUAGUGUUUGUUUUGUAACACAAUAUAAAACCAAUAUAAAGUGCUUGUUUUCGUGAAGGAGUCUGUUUUAGGUGGUGACGUGUAUUUUGGUGGGUGUUGUCAUCAUGGAUGUUUUUUAGGGUGUUUAUUUUCGGGUGUUCCGCCUAUAUACGGCGUCUUUAGUUUGUAUUCUUUAAUUUACCGGUCUUUGUUCGUCUUAAGCAGAAAUCUAGUUGUUUAAAAAAAAUUGCUGCGAAAAAAUAUAUAUAUAUAAAGAACAUAAUACAAGCCACUCCUGAUAAUCUUAAAACACAACAAUUUUUAUUCUCUCCAAGUGCUGUCUCCCCCUCAAGAGACAUCAUUAAUCAAACACAAAACAAUGGCGACAAAAUUUGGUUUUAGUAAAACCUCUAGGAACAAAUCGAUUAAACAACACUUCAAAGUUUGUUUUUGUUUCAACAGAAUGUUUAAGCUCAAGGUGGCUGAACCACCAGAAGAAAUCAACAAUAUUUUUUAUAGGUAUGCACAAAAUGGUACCAUGACCAUGGAUGAAUUGUACUACUUUUUAGUUCAUUUUCAAGGAGAAAAGGGUGGUGAUGCUACCCAAAAACAUGCUCAAGAUGUUUUCCAUAGUUUAAGACAUCUCAAUAUAUUUCAAAGGAGAGGUCUUCAUUUUGAUGCCUUCUUUCGUUAUCUUUUUGGUGACCUAAAUGGCCCCAUAGGUGAUCAGGUAAAUUUUCUUCCAGUUUAUCCUUAUUAUCUAUGAAGCACGGACACCGGACACUGACACGACGAAACCGUUAAUAAUUUGAGAAAAUCACAUAAUUCAAUGUAAUUAUAGAUGUCGGUAUCGAGUCAGUGUCGGACACGACACGUGUCAGACACCAGGACACACCUAAUCCGAGGAAUGUCCGUGCUUCAUAGUUUAUUAUCAUUUUUUUUAUAUCAUUUUGUAUUUAUGUUAGUUCAACUGCUAACUUUAUCAAAUACUACAAAUUUAAUCGGCUAGUUUAUCUACUAUAUUUUUUUUUUUUGAGAGGAGUUUAUCUACUAUAAUUAACAUGACAGUUAUAAAUUCAUCCGUUAUCAACUAGCGUUUAUCAAAAAUAUACAUGACUUUUUACCAAAAAGAGCCAAAAACAUGCAUAUAUCUUUUGGUUCCACUAAAUCCUUAACAAUUACAAUUAUAUAUUUGAAUUUUUAAAUAAAUUGUCUGUUUUUUAUUUCAGGUGCAUCAAGAUAUGAAUGCUCCAUUGGCUCAUUAUUUUUUGUACACAGGGCACAACUCCUACUUAACUGGAAAUCAAUUGAGUAGUGAAAGCAGUACUGCACCAAUAAUAAAAGCUUUGAAAAAAGGAGUUAGAGUAAUUGAGUUGGAUUUGUGGCCAAAUUCUAGAGAAGAUGAUGUGGAAGUUCGUCAUGGAGGGUAUAAGUUUAGUUUUCAACUACGAAGCACGAACACUCCUUGGAUAAGGCGUGUCCCCGUGUCAGACACGUGUCGUAUCCGACACCGACACAUAUAAUUACACAGAAUUAUGCGAUUGUUUAAAAAAUUUAGUUGUGUCGGCGUGUCUAUGUCGUGUCCGGUAUCCAUGUCCAUACUUCAUAGGUUUUCAAUAGCAUAUUAGUUUAAGUUCAAUAUUAUAGCACAUUGUUGAUUUCUUGUGCAUUCCAACUUUCAGCUUUAUAUAUAACUUAAACUAAUUGACUUAUUUUUGAGCUGUAGGACUCUGACUUCUUCGGUGAAACUUAGAGAUUGUUUGAAUGCCAUUAGGGACAAUGCAUUUGAUGCAUCAAAGUAUCCAGUUAUAAUAACUUUUGAAGACCAUAUAACUCCACCUCUUCAACGCAAAGUCGCCAAAGUUUGUAAAUUUUUUGCAUUAUUUAUGCCACUAUAUAUCAUAUAGUCUUAAAUUAAAGUAACAAUUUAAUAUUUAUAAUGCAGAUGGUGGAUGAUAUAUUUAGAGGUAUGUUGUUUCGUCCAAACUAUGCACAUCAAAUGAAGAAAUUCCCUUCACCAGAAGCGUUGAAGGGGAAAAUUCUGAUUUCGACGAAACCACCGGAGUCUCUUGAAAGUCAAAGCCAAAAGGUACAAGAAGAAGAAGUUGAUGAGUUGCUUGAGGACAAAGAUGAUGGAUCUAGAGUCAAUGAAGAGGUGAAAAUUUGAAUUCAUUUAGCUUAUGAACCUGUUCGCUACGAACUAUGAAAAAAAUUGAUAUUCAAUAAUUUAGAGAUUCAUUUUAAGAGAGUUUGAAGCAGUUUUUCGAUUUCUUUUGAGAUUCUCAUUUGUAUUUUUUUAAGAUAUGUAAUAAACAAAUGAAAAUUUCUAUUUUUUUUCUAAAUAGCUUAAUAAGCAUUUUUUGCAAUUAAUUAGGAUGAGUUGGAUGAUGAGAAUGAGGAGGAUGAGUCUCUUGGAUAUAGGAAUUUGAUUUCUAUUCAUGCUGGGAAACCAAAAGGUAAUGUGGAACACUGGUUGACGGAACAUGAUCAAGUUAGGCGUCUUAGCUUGAGUGAGCAAGUUCUUGAAGAUAUCGUCAAAACUCAAGGAUCUGAAAUUGUCAGGUGAUUUUAAAUGUAUUUUUGGUUGAUCGUAUUGUUGAACCUCAAUAAUUUUAAUUUAGUUAAUCGACUCGUAAGAGUGUGAAACUCUCUCAACACCUAUAUUUUUUCAUUCACAAAACUCUAACACAAAAUACCAAUUAAGUUCAUAUGCUCUAUUUUUUUACCCUAUUGUUAAUUGUUACAACAAUGAAUAUUAUUCCAUUCUAUGCUUUAGAUUCACCCAAAGGAAUUUGCUUAGAAUAUAUCCAAAGGGUUCACGUGUAACUUCCUCCAAUUAUGAUCCUAUGAAUGGAUGGAUGCAUGGAGCUCAAAUGGUAGCAUUUAAUAUGCAGGUUAGACUUCACUUUCCAUUUAUUUGACAAUUGAGAGAAGAGAAGGGAAAAAUAUGAAUUGACUCUUAAAAAGCACUAUGCUACUCUUAUAAAUAUAUUUCAUUUUGUCUCUUAAUAACUUUCAGAAGUGUCAACUUAUAAUUAAAUAUAAGAAGCUAAUUAGGAUAAAACUAAAUAAUAACGGGGAAUUAGUCACUUUAGUCCCUAAGUGAGAAAAGAGUAGUCACUUUAAUCCCUAAAUGCAGAGAAAUUGCAAAACAAUCCUUGAAUGUAGACUUUAUUCAAUUUCAGGGACUAAAGUGACAAACAGAGUCUACAUUCAGGGACUAUAUUGACUAAUGGAGUCUGCAUUCAGGGACUAAAGUGAUUAACAGAGUCUGCAUUCAUGGACUAUUUUGCAAUUUAUCUACAUUCAGGACCUAAAAUUACAACUUAUUUUCUAUUCAAGGACUAAAAUGACUAAUCUUCCAAAUAAUAACAUAAAACUAUGAAUGUAACAUGGUCAAAAACAACAUCAAAGCAUCCUAUUAUAACAACUUGCAUCCUAAGAAAAGUAUUUUUUUUUAAAACUCCUAAGAAAAGUAUUUUCAUAAUAACAUAUGGCGGAAUUUCACACUCAUGCAUCCUUCAUUUUAUACAAUUGUUGGUAUGUUAUGCAAUUUGGUGUCUGCUUUCCAUUAUUUAUUUAUAAAUUUGGGAAUAGAAAUCAAAAAAGUUUGAGGAUUUUUUUUCGAAUCAUGUUAACUAGGGUCACUAAGACACUACUUAACAUUUUCCUUUUCUUAUUUAUUUAUUGGGAAUAUUAAUUAUUAACUUUGUUUUACUUAAAGGGACAUGGGCAUUAUCUUCAAUAUAUGGAAGGAAUGUUCAAAGCCAAUGGUGGAUGUGGGUAUGUUAAGAAACCUGAUAUCUUAUUGAACAAUAAUAAGAUGUAUGAUCCUAGAGUAUACCGACCAAAGAAAACUCUUCAGGUAAAGGGAAUGUAGAUACUUAUAAUUCAUAUUUGGAAUUGAUACUACAAAAUUUAUCUUCUAAUAUAUAAAAAAUAAAAAACAGGUUCACGUAUACAUGGGUGAAGGUUGGCAAUCUGAAUUCGGCCAAACACACUUCGAUUUUUAUUCUCCACCUGAUUUUCGUGUACAGGUAAUUAUACUGUGAUUGAAAUGACUUAAGGACUUGUUUAAAUUGACUUAUUUAAGACCAUCUAUAACUUAGGUAUUUGUGAAACUAAUACCGUACAGUUGAAUUUGUGAAAACAUCUUAUGACAUGUUUAAAACAUGUUUUCAGCUUACUUUCGCAAUCUCUUUAUGACAUAUUUAAAGCAUUUGUUAGUAUUUCACAUUCUUAUAAUAGAUGUAAUGUAACAGUAGUCCUAUGUGUUUCCGUUAAAAAUAGUAUUAUGAAUCAAUCUGCUAUAUUUUCAUGUCAACUAAUUUUAGGAUCAUUGUGCUAAAAUAUGCACAAAAAAUUAAUUGUGAAGUCAGUAUGAACAAACCCCACAAACAUGAAAAUUGUAAGAGAAAUGUUAUUAACAAUUUUGUUGUCCAAAACCGUAUUUACUUACAUCGUAAAUACAAUUUUGUUUUUUUAUUAGUUUUCUAUCUUUCUCUAAAUCAAAUCAACAGCUAUAAAUAAUACAUUUUGAGAUGAUGUUAAAUAGUUGUCAAUUUUUAGAUGCUCAAAUAAAAUUCCUCAAAUAUAACGUGUCAAUAUUGUGCAGGUUGGUAUCCAUGGUGUUCCAGUUGAUACAGACACCAAAGUAACCAGGACCAAGGAAGAUGAGUGGGUCCCAGUUUGGAAUGAGGAGUUAAACUUUCCAUUAACUUAUCCAGAAUUGGCACUAUUACACAUUAAAGUUAUUGAACGUGACUUUUCUGGACAACAUGAUUUUGCUGGACAAACAUGUUUACCUGUAUCAGAGUUAAGAGAAGGAAUUCGUUGUGUUCGUUUGUGUAACCGCAAAGGUGAACCUUAUAAGCAUGUUAGGCUUUUAAUCCAAUUUCGAUUUUCUAAUCACUAGUAGUGAAUUUGUUUGUGUUUGUAUUAUGAAAGAUAUAAACACAUGUAAAUAUAAAUAAUUAGUACAAUUACGAAGAUAUGGUAUGUUCGGUUCGUUCCUACGCAAGAAUUUCUCGUGUAUUAGUACGGAAUAUAUCAAAGAUAUCCUCCACAUAUAGAAGUCACUAAAGAAUGAUUUCUCAUCCCUCUUCAUUAUGUAAACAAAAUUGGCAUACAUGCUUCUCAAAAAAUCGGUUUUCGAACAAAACUCACUAAACCAACGAUACCAGUACUUUGAAAUUUGUUUCAACUCAUACAAAUAUUUCUUCAAAAGACCCACCGUAGAUUUAUCCUCUACAAAACCUUUUGGUUGCUCUAUGUAAAUUGUCUCUUCAAGGUCUCCAUGUAAGAAAACCGUUUACGUAUCCAUUUGUUCCAACUCAAAAUUGUAGAUUAAUAAUUGCCGUAAGUACCCGUAUGAAACAAUGAUUUACGACAUAUAAGAGAAUCUCUUUGGAGUCAAUCCCCUCAACUUGAGUAAACCAUUUGUCACAAGCCUUAAUUGGUUCUUCGAUCGUUGAAUCACCUUUAUUCUUUAAACAAUGAGUUUGAACUUUUCUUUCAUGAAUCUUAGCAAGUCUUUUUUUUUUAUAUCAUAUCCAUUUUUUUUAAAUAGAUCAAAUAUAUCCCCGGAUCCUUUAAAUUUCAUGUUUGUUUCAGACAGAUCCUUUAAGUUUCUAAAAUUUCAGGCCUUUUAAAUACAAAUGUUAGUAUUUUCUCGAUUAGUAGGAUUCAAAUCUUUGAACCUUUAAUUAACUUUUUAUCCAACCUCUUAAUUUCUUAGCUCAACCAAAUUACACAUCCCCGGUAAUAUCCAUGUUUUUUUAGUAUCACGUCUUAUAUUAUUAUUAUUAAGAGUAAUGAUAUUUGAACAACUAUUUUAAAAUAAUUUUUGGGACAAUCUUGUUGUUCUUUUUUCAAUGGUCAAAAACAAAAGAGAAAGAAAAAGUAAGAGAGAGAAUAAAAAUAUAAUGUGAAUAUGAGAGAGAAAAUUGUACAAAAAUUAUACAAAAAUGAUUGUACAAAUAUCAUUUCUAUUAUUAAAGUUGACUGAAAUGGCUUUUUAGUGAACAAAUAAUAGCAAAAGACAAAAGGGUGAGUUUCGGGUAAAAAGGUCCUUGUAGACUCAAAAGCGAGAAAGUGAUAUCUUUUAACUUAUUUUGAUUAAGUGGGCACGGCAUAGGUCUGUUUAAGCUCAGCCACCGAGACAGAAAGACAAGACAAGCACUAACAAAUAUUUGAUCAAAGAAAAUCAAUGUAAAUUACUUUUCAUUUUUAGGAUACAGUUUAUGUUUGACUUGGAUCCAUUAACCUUGAAGAUCAAUUCUAUCAUCUCCACUAACAUGGAUCAAUCAACUAAAAUCAAUGUAUUUAAUUUGAUAAUAAAGAUUGAAUAUAUUAAGUUUUUUUCUCUCUCUUUAUUUACAAAAUAUACGGUUCACACUAAUGAAGAUAUUAUCAUAUCUCUUAUAAAAAUUACUUAAAUUUGAGCAAAACUAUUUAAAUAUAGUAUUUUCUUCUACUUUUAAAGAAAAUAUGUAAAUCUCCGUGAUCUUAAUUCAAUUGUUAGAAAUAUUACAUUUUAAAUGCAUGGUUUAUAUAUGAACCUUGGAUUUCCCACUUGUUCACCUUAUAAAAUAGAGAAUCUAACUACUUGACUACUUACCAAAAAUAAAUAAAUAAAUAAAAUACCAAAAACCUCGUGUUUUUUUUAAGGAAAAACUCUCCUAUUUUUGGUGAAUACAUAUACUCUCAUUUAUUUGUAAAAGUGUAACAUUAAUUAUUAUUAUUGUUGACAAGAAAUAAGCUUCAUUCAUUGAAAUACUAAAAUAGUAACAAUACAAUCAAAAGGAUCAUACGUUGGGACAUUUCUCAUCCAUAUAUUAGGAAUUAUUAAGAUAGUUAGAUAGAUGCUAAGGGUACAUUAUAAACUUUCAAAAGGCAUUAAUGCAAUAGCAAAACAAACUUCAAAUCUUAACAACCAAGCUAAAUUCUUACUCCUAUGACCAUAAGUCAAUAAUAAAUCGAGAUUCACGUAAUCCAACUUCAGAAAAAGAUAUUUGCAGGUGUUUGCACAAAUCGAUUAUUUGUGAUCUUUUAUAUGACCAAUUCUACCACAUAUUGACAAUACAUUUGUGUAAUUGAAAGGACCUUGAAUUUAGUGAUAGACGUUAUAAACCCCCUACUCGAAAUAGAGUACCUUUGAAGCGAGUCAUUCUCAAGCAUUUUAGCAAACAUAUAAGGUGCAAACUUGAAGCAAAUUAAGCAGAACAAUGAAAUAAAUAAGGGUAUUGUUAACAAGUGCCCUCGGGGCACUCUUUAAGCAUCCCAAAUUUAGUAACUAUUUUUUUAAAAAGUCAACAAUUACAAUUUCCAAUGCAUUCAAUACACAACUUUUCAUUAAAAACUUACCACUUAAAGUGUUUAAAGAGUGCUCCGGGGGCACUAGUUAACAUUUCCCAACAAAUAAAACAACCACAAAGACUUUGAAUCUCAAACCCAGUGAAGAUAAUAGAGUAGACCAUGGUGGCUUUCAAGGGGACCGUUUAUACGACUUUUUCACUUGAGAUAAUAGCCAUAACAGCUAGAUACAAAGGACGUGGUGGACGAUCCGUCGUAGGAACGCUUGAAUGAGGCGUGUAGGAAUUGAUCUCAUCGUCAUAGCACAACGAGGGAAAGCACAAAAAGAUAGUCAGAACAUAUUUCACGAGAAAGCGAACGAUGGUAUAAAUGGAUGGGUUGCGAGUGAAGGCGAUUAAAGCCAGAUAUUUACUUUUUAUCUUUUUUAAUCUCUUAACUCAACUAAAUGAGUUACUCAUGCCUAAAAUUUAUGGGUUGUAAUUCAUAUUCAUAAUAUGAGUAAUGCAAAGGGGAAUAGGAUAAAAAGUUAUGUAAAACCUUUAUAUAAGAAAAAAAAUUAGAGUGCAGAGACAUCAUCGUUCCAAGGUAAACUUGUCACCCAUACUUCAUUAUCACACUCAAGAAUGAUGCACAAUAUAUUCUACAAAAUAUACCUGCAAAAGGAUGUACAUAAAAGCUAUGUGUAGUAGUCACAAAGGUACUAAAGAAAGGCAAUGGAAUAGGAAACAUAACAGGGAACUCACUUAUUUCCCUUCCACAUUGAAAGAAUCUAUACCCACCAUCUGUUUGAUUAUGAAUAGCCAAAGUUAAUGGUCCCACACCACUCAAACUAAUCUAUCCCACCAUAAUAUCAACCCCAGAAAUAAAACACACACAAACAAAUACAAUACAAAUGUCAAAAAACACAUCAUAAUCUAAUCUGCCACAUCACCACCAUCAUCAUAAAAAAGAAGAAAAAAUGCAUCCAAAACCAAAUUGGAUUUCCAACUGUCACUAACUACUCAUCCUCACCAACUAGUAGAACAUCUCUAAAACAUCUGAUCUCAAUCAAACAAUCGAUAAAAUAAGUUAACUUUAACUUUUAUUCAAAUUAAAAUUAUCAAAUUUAAAAUUUAAAUUGUCCGAUCUCAAUCAAACUAUCACCGAUCAUCUGACUAAAUAAAUGCGUACAGUCAAUGACAAAGAGAGGAUCACCACUAAGACCAACCAAAAAUAGAGUCACUCUUGGGAGUCUUUUCUCCCUCUUCUCCUCUUGUUGUCAUAACCUGAUAAAUAAUCACUCCAAUUAUAUUUCCACACUAUGAACAAGUAAAGUAAAACCCAAACUAAAUAAACCCUCAUACUAAUUUAUUUCUUCAAUCAUCAUCAUCAUCUCUUCACUAAAAUCCAAACCCCAAAACCUGGUACCUUACAUACACAUAUACAUAUAUCAAUAUUCAAUUCAAUACUAUAGUAUAGUAUGAUAUGUCAUAAUAAAAUAUAAUAUUACUAUUAUUGCUAUUGUGUUAUUUUAUUUUUUAUAUAUGGUUGCCGGCGAUGCCGACGCCGGUAAGCUCCGCUCGUCAAUUCCUAACCGACGAAGCGGCGCGUGCCCUCGACGACGCAGUAGCCGUCGCACGCCGUCGCAGCCAUGCACAAACAACCUCCCUUCACACCAUCUCCGCCUUACUCUCCCUCCCAUCUUCAUCCCUCCGCGACGCCAUCUGCCGAGCUCGAACCGCCGUUAGAUUCCCGUCAUUCUCGCACCGUCUUCACCUCCGAGCACUUGAGCUCUCCGUCGGCGUAUCCCUCGACCGCCUCCCGUCGUCAAAACCAUCUCCGGUAGAAGAGCCGCCGGUUUCGAAUUCUCUCAUGGCGGCGAUCAAAAGGUCUCAGGCGAAUCAACGCCGGUCGCCGGAGAGUUUUCAUUUCUACAACCAUAACGGAACGACGCCGUCUUUGUUGAAAGUUGAACUGAAACACUUCGUUCUAUCCAUUCUUGAUGAUCCUAUAGUGAACCGUGUUUUCUCUGAAGCUGGUUUUCGUAGUUGUGAUGUUAAACUUGCUUUACUUCAACCACCGGUUCAAUCAUCAUCCCGGUUUUUAUCCUCUCCGCCGGUUUUUCUUUGUAAUCUUGAACCGGGUCGAACCGGGUUAACUCCUUUUCCUUUAGGGGUUGAUGAGAAUUCAAGAAGAAUAGCUGAGGUUAUAGCAAUGAAAGGUAAAAAGAUGAAUCCUUUGUUGAUGGGUGUUUAUGCAAAAGAUGCUUUUAGAAAUUUUGUUGAGUUGUUACAAAAGGGUUUAGGUGGUGGUUUGUUUCCACCUGGGAUGUCUGGUUUGAGUGUUGUGUGUGUUGAAAAGGAGAUUGUCGAGUUUGUUAAGGAUGGUGGGAGUGAGGAGAAGAUGGGUUUGAGGUUUAAGGAAGUGGGGUGUGAGGUGGAGAAAUGUUUGGGUGCUGGUGUUGUUGUUGGGUUUGGAGAGAUUGAGGUUUUGGUUGGGGAUGAUGUGGAUGGUGGAUGUAUUAAGUUUGUUGUGUCGGAGUUGGGGAGAUUGUUGGAGGUUUAUGGUGAGAAGGUUUGGUUGAUGGGUGUGGCUGAAACGUCGGAGGCUUAUUCGAAGUUUUUGAGGUUGUUUCCGGGUGUGGAGAAGGAUUGGGAUUUGCAUUUGGUUACUGUGACAUCUGCUACUCCUUCAAUGGAAGGACUCUACUCUAAAUCCAGGUUAGUUCUAUCUAUGAAGCACAGGCGCGGACCUGUCCGGACACCAGACACAACACUUGACACGUAGAUACUGAUAAUAAUUUAAAAAGUUGAAAGUGAUUAAAUGUAAUCACAUGUGACCAUGUACACAUGUUAGACACCAGCCACAUUGAAUUGAAGAGUAUAGAUGUCUAUUGGUUGUGGUUUGUACUUGUCAUGAUUUUGGUUGAAGUGUACACAUAGGUACUAUGCAGGCCUCUUAUAGGUUCAUAUACGCACACAUAUAUCAAUAUACAUUUAUGAAAACAUAUCAGAAUCAUCAUGUAUUUAAGGCAAUGCAUAUUUAGAAUGGUAAGUGAGAUCAUAGAAAAAUUAAUGAAUAUGAUUGUGACUUGGUUGUGUUUGUUAAUUUGUGCCAAAGGUUAUGGGUUUUUGCUAUUUUUGGUUACUCUCUUCUGACUUCUGUCUUCCUUAUUAAUCUUUCCCUCUUGCUUUUUUGGAAGGGUUGUUUGGUAGAAGUGGAAUUUUUAUGAACAAGUUAUUAUACUUUAAUCUCCCUUACUCAAUUCAAACCUCUAUUAUGUUUUUACUUUUUUCUUUUUUCAAUAGUAAAAUGAAAGUUAGUCCUUGUAAUUUAAGGUACUACUUGUUGGCAUUGUCAAAGUUGUGAUUUUAAGCAUGGAUUGCUAGAAAGUUUUCUUUUUUCAAACUCUUAUUGUGAGCCCAAAAAAUUCAUUAGUCUGUUGUUAUAUACAUACAUAUUGGCUACGAUAUACUUGAUUUUCGUAUACGGUGCUUUUAAGUUACAGGUCUCUCUUACUGUGUGCACUUUAGCUUCUGACUAUUGUACCGAUUGUAUCUCACAGUUCCAUGCUCAUGAUAAACUUACAGUUUGAUGGGGUCCUUUGUUCCAUUUGGUGGAUUCUUUUCUACACCUCCUGAAAGCAAAAGUCCCAUUAGCUCUGCAAAUGCAUCAUUUACUCGCUGUGACAAAUGCAAUGAAAAGUAUGAACAAGAAGUUGCUGAUGCUUUUAAGGUAGAUCCUGCUACUCUGGCAUCAAAUUACACAACAAGCUUGCCUUGGUUUAAAAAGGUUGUUGAUGUGGAUACACAUGGAGGACUUGAUGUGGCAAAGGUUUGUUAUGAUCGCCAAAUCUUAGAUAUUCUUGUCUUGUGCAUACUUGGCAUUCACAUGCAUACACAUAAUGUGUGCAACAUGGUGGGGGCAAUUAUUGUACUAAUCUACUUAAAUAAUUUAAGGGUAUAAAUAAUGCUAGAUUUCCUAUACUGGUUAAAGUAAUUUGGCUGCCCUAAAGUGAGAAGUCACUUUAGAGUGUGAAGUAAGUAAUUAUAUUUAUAGGCAUUUAUUUGGAAAUCAAUGGUUGAGUUUGUGAUCAUAUGCAUGCAAGUGUUUGACAAACUAUGAAGUUUAUAUGCCAAUUAUUGAUUUUAGAAUCAAUAGCUAGCUUAUUUAACCCUCCUAAGUGACUCAUUCACUUUAAAGAAGCCAAAUAAGGUAACAAAAACCUUUCCAAUCAAUAAAAAAGAUGGAAAUUUGAUGAUUCGUUUGUAAAAACCAAAUAAAAGAAUAAUGUUUCUCUUUUAUUUUCUCCCUGUGAAUAUUCUUUUGCUGAGCCUAUGGGCUUACGAUGAUCAAAUUUAGAUUUAUAUCAAACAUGUUAUAUCAAAUAAUGGGCAUGGAUAUCUAUUCAACAUCCACUAGUAUAGUGACCUAUAUUUUUUUUGAAGAAGCUAAAUUAGCCCACCUAAAUUAGCACCGGGGGAAUCGAACCUGAGACCUCAAGGAGGAGCACACUCCCAGGUCACAAGCCAAUACCACCAAGCCAACCCAAGUGGGUUUAUAGUGACCUAUAUUAGUUUUGGUUAUACCAUAUAAAUCUGCAGUUGCUGAAAUGACUUUUUUGCUAUCAGUAUUGGGACACAAGAAAAUCAUAUAUUUUCUUUAUAACUCUUAAAACAUCUGCAAGUUAUUCUAGAAUGUUAACCUAUAAAAUGAUUUGGAGUUCUAUUUUUCUCACGAAGAACCGUAAGAUUUUGUUUCUUGAGUUUAUAACUCUUAACAUCUGCAGGUAAAUGAAGAAAAUACAAGCUUGAAUGAUAAGAUAUUGGGAUUUCAAAAGAAAUGGAAUGAUAUUUGUCAACGUCUUCAUCAAGCAAGGUCUCAUGUCCCAUCACUUGAAGUUUUACGGUUUGGUUCAGGUUUUAACGAAGGCAGCAGUAAAGAUUCAUCACUUAAUGAACUCCAACGUUCUAGUCCAUUUUCCUACAUGCCUAAAGAGUUGCAUGGUACUUUUCCAUCAAAACAUUUAUCACCCACUCCAGUACAUACUGGUAGAGUUAGUGUCAAUGUUGGAACUGAUCGUGUGCCGAAAGUUACAGAGACUCAACAAAAUGACAUGACGACUCCUUGGCUCGCCCCUUCACGUAUGGCCAAUAUGAGUGUACUGGAAAACAAAUCAUCUUCAUCCCUUAUUCCUGUGACCACAGAUUUAGGAUUGGGAACGUUAUAUACAUCAACACCAAUUGCUCACAAGCCAGAUACUUCAGAAUUUCAAGAUAAAAUAAAGCAUUUUGAGCACUUUCCAGAGUCUACUUCAGCUGAUUCUGUUGCUGUCAAUGGAAAUACAUCACAUAAGAUUGCUAGAUCCUCCUUCCCGGCUUCAAACAUGGCAACAAAAUUUGAUUCAGUAGAUUUCAAGUCUCUUAAUAAACUUCUCUUUGAAAAGGUUGGCUGGCAGAAUCAGGCGAUAUGUGAUAUCAACCGAACUCUGUCCCUUCAUAAAUCCGGUGAAGGGAAGAGCAGAGACUUGCAUGGUAGAGCAGACAUAUGGUUUGCUUUCCUAGGACCAGAUAGAAUUGGAAAAAAGAAAAUUGCUUCGGCACUUGCAGAGACUAUAUUUGGAAAUACAGAAAGCAUCAUCUCUUUGGAUCUCGGCUUCCAAGACGGGCUUUACCCACCGAACUCGAUUUUCGAAUGCCAAAAGUCAUUAUGUUAUGACUUGUUUAUAAGGAAAACAGUUGUGGAUUAUAUUGCUGGGGAGUUGAGUAAAAAUCCUCAUUCCGUUGUCUUUCUAGAAAAUGUAGAUAAAGCUGAUUUUCUGGUGCAGAGUAGUUUGUUGCAGGCAAUAAGAAGAGGUAAAUUUCCAGACUCGCGUGGAAGGGAAAUAAGCAUCAACAAUGCAAUCUUUCUUUUAUCCUCGACUGUCUGUAAAGGCAACGGCUCUUCUGCUUUGGUGGAAGGCAACUUAUUUUCUGAAGAAACAAUACUUGAAGCCAAAAGAUGUCAAAUGCAAUUACUACUCGGAGAUACAUCUGAGGAUGCCAAAAGAAGCUUUAGUACAAAUGUCAAGAUUGUGCGGAGGAAAGGGUUUUCCAAACCAUCAUUUAUGAAUAAAAGAAAACGAGCUGAUACUAGUGACUUCAAAGAGGGAGCAGCAAGCAAGAUGCAAAAACAGGUUUGCGAGACAUCGAUGUCCUGUCUGGAUUUAAAUAUGCCUCUAGACGAGGGUGAAGAAGGUAUGGACGAGGACAACAAUGACCAUGAACGCGAUUUUGUAGUGGAAAACUCAGAUUCCUGGUUUAGUGAUUUCUGCGAUAAAAUGGACGAAAAAGUGGUUUUCAAGCCAUUCGAUUUUGAUGCACUUGCUGAACAAUUACUAAAAAGCAUUAGCAUACAAUUUGAAAAGGCAUUUGGUUCAGAGUUUCAGUUGGAAGUCAAUUAUGAGGUAAUGGCACAGAUACUUGCCGCUGCUUGGUUAGCAGACAAGAAAGAUGCAGUGGAUAAUUGGGUUGAAAGUGUACUUGGCAAAGGCUUCUUUGAAGCUCAGCAGAAAUACCACCCUGUAACUAAAUAUGUUGUGAAACUAGUUAACUGUGAAUCUAUUUUUGUCGAAGAACCUGAUCUUGGAGUAUGCCUUCCUGCUAGCAUUAACUUGAAGUAAAUUUUGGCUUACUAUUUAGUAUUAUUGUAAUUACUUGUAAAAUGUAGCUUUUAGAUAUAACAUAUGGUAGUUGGUAGCAUUGUUCAGCUUAUUAAUCUCACAUUUUUUGUUGUGCUGAUCAUCGUGUUGUAAGUUUUAUGAUGAUAAAAGAAUGUGUAGUUUUCUCUGGUAUAAUACCUAGUUAACAUGUAUUUUCUCUGUAUAUUUCUUUAUACGUUAUUGUGCUCUAAUAUAUUUGUUUGCAGAGGUUUGCUAUUUGAACACGAUUUUUGGACAAAACACAAAUAAAAAAUACUUAAACACACACAUAGAUAAGAAAAAUUAAAAGAUAAAAGUGAGAAAUGAUGUGACUAAUCUAUUUCUUUUUCAAUUUGUGUGUUCAAAUAUUUUUUAUUUGAAGUUGUGACUAAAUAAGAUUUGUUCACCUAGCAAACACAAAAAGGGAAUUGUACGUUCUAGUUGUGCGUUCUGUUAUCGAGGUGGGUGAAAAUGUUAAUAAAAAAUUAAAAAAGAUAUAGAAACCGUUUUGUUAUACGGUGUGGUUGUUGUGAUUUGUGUUCACAAAUAAUUCCCGUAGUUUGAAAUUGUUAUACAUUAUUGUACCUAAAAAAAUAUCUACUUAUUCCGAUGGUUGAUAUUUGUUCUGGUUACAAUUUUUUUUUAGGUUUAAUUGUUCUUUUGUCCCUUAAUUAUUUAAUUGGUAUCGCUUUGGUCCCUUAAAAAAAAAAAGAUUGUUUGAGUACUUUAAGUUUUUUUUUAGUCUCGUUUUGGUCCCUUCUGUUAGGUUUCCGUUUGGGUUUUAAAAAAAAGUUAACUCCUGGACACGUGUCACCUUGUCAUUGGCUCUGAGUUUUUUUUUUUACAAAAAAAAAAUUAAUUAUUUUUUUUAAAAUAUAUAUAUUUUUUUAAAAAAAAUCCCAAAGCCAAUGACAACGUGACACGUGUCCCAGGGUUAACACGUGUCACCUUGUCAUUGGUUCUGGGAAUUUUUUACAAAAAAAUAUAUAUAUAUAUAUAUAUUAAAAAAAAUUAAUUUUAAAAAAAAUAUAUAUAUAUAUAUAUAUUUUUGUAAAAAAAAAAAAAAAAAAAAACCUCAGAGCCAAUGACAAGGUGACAUGUGUCCACACUUAACGUUUUUUUUAUUAAAACUAACGGAAACCUAACAGAAGGGAUCAAAACGAGACUAAAAAUAAACUUAAAGAACUCAAACAAUCUUUUUUUUAGUUAAGGGACCAAAGCGAUACCAAUUAAAUACUUAAGGGACUAAAAGAGCAAUUAAGCCUUCUUUUUAUAUUGAUAUAAAGGGGAUGUGCUUAGAGUAGUAGCCGUCCAAAUGUCGAAAUGAAGUAAAUCAUCCUCACGACUAGAUACAUAAGGGUUGUUGGCGAUGGGAUAAAUACUUUUUUGGACGGAUCCUUGGGUGGGUCGUAGCCCUAUGUGUGACAGAUACAAACAUUUAUAUGAUUUAUUAGAAAAUUAAUUGACGGAGAAGGUUGUUCGCGCGAGAAAAAGAGAUGGAAGGGGCAUGCUGUGCUUUGCUUCAAAAUAUUGUUUUCCAGGUUGGCAUGGUGGAUAGAUAGGAAAUGACAUUUAGAGCCUACCAAUAGUUAUACAAUUAGCGGCAUUAUCAAUUGUUAACGAAUGUGGAACCGACUGCUCAUUUAGCUAUUAUUAUUUGGCAUAAAGUAGUUCUCUUCUUUUUUUUGGCAGUUUCUCUGCAAUCAGAUUUCAAUUAAGGAUAGCUUAAUCUGGAGAGGCAUCCUUCAACAUGAUUCUUAGUAUUGUGUGAGUGGUUGGGGUUUAGAUGGAAUGUUGAACAUCUUUUUUGGAGGUUUAAUUACUUCUAGAGUAUUUGGUCUCUUCUUCGACAUUGGAUUGACAUUUGCUCGUUUGAUCCGCUUCGAUUAUCAAACCACUUUCUUCAAUUAGGUCAUACAUACGGAUCUUCUAAAUCACUUCAAACUUUUUUUUUCUUUGGUUAAUUUGAUUCUCGUGCGUUUGGAUGAAUUGAAAAGAAAUGAAUAAUAGAAUUUUUUUUCAUAAUGAGGAAGAAUCGUUACAACAAUUGUUGGACAAAAUUAAACCCCUCUCUUUUUGGUGGUCGAAAGCAAAAAAAAACACUACAUUUGUUUUUGAUAAUUAUAAUUGGUGGCUUAAUCCUUUACUUUGCUUGAUUUUGACGCGUAACUUUUCUUUUUUAGCUAUGUUUUAUCUAUUUUGACAGUGUAACUGAUUAUUAAAUUAUGUGUUCGGUUCUGAAACUUUUUAUGUUGGGUAGAAUGAUUUGUUCGUAGUAAUAUAUUCAAUUUUGCUUGUUCAAAAAGAAAAGAUCUAUUUAUUAAUAUAAACAAUACUCAUACGUGAUAUAUAAUAACAAAAGAUAUAUUUUUGGAAAGGUAUAGAGCUCUUACUUUAGCAACCUUUCUUCGAGUCCGCUAUGCUCUAGAGGUUAUCUUUAGUCAAUAAAAAAAUCUUUUUUCAAUUUUUUUUUGAAUAAUUAAUGUAUUUAAAUGAGAUAAUAAAUUAUUCAUUUGUUUAUAAAAAUGACCGAAUAUAAGUUAAGAAGCACCCCUAAAAAAAUAAAAAGAAGUGCUUUGAACUGAUUCAUAGGAGGCCAUCAAAUAGAAAUUUGUGAUAACUUUAGAAACGACAAACAACAAGAGUAUGGGGGAAGCUCACAUAUGAGCCAAAAAACUUAUCAACGUCAAAGAUCUUAAAGAAAACACCAAUGUCCCUCUCAUCACUCGAUAACUUCAAGAAUACUUGUCGGACUUUUCUUAAAUAAUUACUACUAAAAUAUAAGCAAAAUUCAUUUUUUAAAUAUAUUUAUUUAAUAAUGUAUAUGGUUCAUAAUAUGAACCACAUACAUCAUUAAAUAAAUGAAAAUUAUCUUUCAUUGAAUUCUUCCAUCGACAUAUUAACAUAUUUCCUCCAUUUUUAAUUAUAGAUAUUUUAAGAAAACAACUUAUUUUGAUUAAACUCUUUUAUUUAUCUGUUAAUUUCAAAUUUUAAGUUUAAUUAAGGUCUCUCUUAAAAAUAAAAAUUCAGUUCUUUUUUAUUGAUAUAUUUUUUAAAUUAUCCUCGAAUUCAUCAAUUAUUUUAUAUUUACCUUGACGAAAAUAGAGUUAACUCACUAUUAAAAAGUGAAGAUAUAUUUAAAUUUAAAUCUCAAUCAGAAUUAUUUUUGAAGUUUUCUGUUUUGAAAGAUUUUUUUGUUAAGUUGUAUACUAUAUAUUUUCUAUACCAAUGUAUAAAAUACCUCUUUUUUUUAUAAAAAAAAAAUACCGUAUAGUUUUUUAUGAUAUAAAAAAUUGUAUAAAUAAUAAUUUUUUGUCAAAAUGACAAACACCACUAAAACUCUUACUAGAAAAAGAAGAAAACACCAAUAAUACUCACACACGCAAUUUCAUAAUCUCUGAUUCAAACACGAAUAAAAAUGUUCAAGUUAAUAAUAUCAGAAUAAACAACCGAAAUAAGUAUACAACUGUAUCUGUAAAAAAAUACUCCAUCUAUCACAAUGAGUGGUGAAAAAUAUUAUCGAAAAAUGAGUGACCCUUUUGAUUUUUAAAGACAAUAUUAAUUAUGUAUUUUUCAAUUUAAAUACUUACACCAAUACAUGAUAAACGAUAGACAUGACAAUAGGGCGGGGUGGGAACGGGUUUUACAUUCCCCGUUCCCAUAUCCGAUUCUCAUAUACUUACCUGUUAUCUUACCUAUAUCCAAUAGGGAUGAAAAAUUGAACCCCAUCCUCGUCUCCGAUGGGUUCGGGUACAUCCCCAUCUCUGCAUUUAAUUAUUUUUUAAUAAAAAAUCGAAGUUUUUUUGUAACCUUAGAGAAAUGUUGUAAUGCAUUAUCCAACAAUAUGCUCACUUUAACAUUUGUUAGACUGAUCGAUUUAGUUGCUCCUUUAAAUAUAAAUGGUGGUUUUUAUAACACGGCAAUUAUCAAACAAAAUAACAUAGCAUAUCAACAUAAAAUAAUUUUAUGCAUUCGGGACGGGUUUGAAUAUGGGUUCGGGAUGGGUACCAAUAUACCCGUUGUUGAAACAAAAUGUGUUUAGCAAUAAUAAUCCUUAAGAGUUUUGAUGAUAACAAAGUAUUAAAAAUUGUCAAUUGGAUAUGCUAGUAUUUGUUCAAGUGUCAAUUGGAUAAGCAAAAAUUUGACAUCUUAAAAUGGUAUUGGAAGAACAAAUAAAGAGCAAAUACAUCAACAAAAAGGGAAGCUUAAAGCGUCUGAAGAAAACUGCUCCUGAAGUUUGAAGUGCUCCUGAAGUGAUGACGUCAUUAGAAGCAAGUUCAUCAGAAGCUGUGAAUCACCAGAAGCUGCAGUUCAUCAGGAGAUGCAACUUAAAGCUUCAAAAGUUGUUUCAAGUAUAACAACGACUAUUUUGAAAGGAUUGAAGGGCAUUUGAUGCUUAUUCUUCAAAGAGCGUUGACAUAGUACGUUUGUACGAAAUGUACAACCACUAUCUCCACUACUCUGUUUUUGUCUCUGCUACAAGACAAGAAAAACAGCUCUGCCUGCAACAAUGUUCCUUCACAUUGGGAACACAUUUGAAAUUGAUCCUUCAUAGGACAAUAACCAUAUCAGGCAAAUGAUCAUUAGUGAUUUAUCAAAAGCUUCAAACGACUCUAUUUUAAAUGUGCUGGCAAUUCAACGUCUCUUUACACCGCUAUAUAAAGGAGUGAAGACUUAGAGUUUCACAAGAACAAUACGAAGCAUUAGCUAAGCCAAAACUCUGUUGAAAUUGUUCUACACUUCAAAGUUCACUUAGAAUUUCUCAUCAAAGCUCAUAUCUUAGAAAUUCUAGAGUCUUUAGAGUCUGUAUCUGAUUUGUAUUGUGAAUACCACUGAUUGUAUAUCAAGUGUUCAACUUCAAACAAUUUUCUUUGUAAUUCUGUUUGAAUUAAGAAGUCUCUUGCAGUUGUGCUUGAGCAAUAGAAGUCUCUUGAUUGUGUUCAGGAGCAUAGGAAGUCUCUUGCAGUUGUGCUUGAGCAUUUGAAGUCUCUUACUAAGUUUAGUAGUGAGCAUUUGUAAUCAGAUAUUACAUAGUGAACUCUCCUUGGAAAUGCAAGGGGGACAAGACUGACUUCCGGUUUGUGGAAGGAACCUGUAUAAAUUGCUUGUGUCUUUCUUCCCUCUCUCUCUCUCUCUCUCUCUCUCUCUCUCUCUCUCUCUCUCUCUCUCUGUUUUUAUCCGCUGCAAUUAGUUCUAAACAUCUCUUCAGAAGCAGAACUCUAUCUGCUUCUGAUCUGUAUUUUCAGUUAGGAGAAAAAGAAGAAAAAGCCAACAGAAUUUAACCCCCCCUUCUUGUGUUUUUCUCACCUUCACCCGUUAACCGUCCCAUACUCGUGUUUUGAAAUCGGGGAAGUCCAAACCCAGAAUUGCCUAAUAAACGAUAAUUUAAUAAAAAAGAAAGAGAAAUGCAAACUUGUGCCCUUAAGGCACAAGUUAAAAGCUAAAUAUAAAAUUAUUUUUUUAGAAAAUUGUGUAUUCAACACUACAAAAGUUUAAACAUUUAUAAUUUAAAUAUAAAAUUUAUUGCUUAUUUCUUUUUAUAGCUCCUUAACUUGUGCCCCAAGGGUACAAGUUAGCAUGAUCCAAAAAGAAAUGAUAACAAAUACUAUCUCCGUCCUUAAAUAUAAAUAUAAUACGAUUUUGGAAUUUUUUUUGUCUCUUUUUAUAAGACUCCUUUGAUAUUUGUAAGUACAUUAAUUAAUUCUUUACCAACAAACCUCUAUUUAUUUUAUAUAUCUUUUUCUUCGAUCAACAUUAAAUACUAUGUUGAAAACAUACACUAAUCCUAUCUUUUAAAAUAUAAAAUUGUAAAACAAUAGCAAUUACAAAUAAAUUUAUUAACACUUUCAAUUUUCUUAAUUCCUGUUAUUUUUCUUAUAUAUUCCUAUAAGAAAGAGAUAGUAUCCUUAUACAUUGUUUAAAGAGAUAAAAGAAGUAACUUUUGUAUAAAAAUUUGUGUAUUUAUCUAUACAAAUGAUUAAUUGAAUUGGUUAUUGUGAGAUGGCGGAGGUAAAUGAUUUAUGGAGUUAGGACAUAUACCAUAAAGUUGGAGAACUAACCGCUCACUUGAUCAGUGUGCGGAGGCAAACAAAUGAGGUAAACAUAUUAAUUAGCUAAGACGACCAUAUUAUCAGCUAAUUUUUAGUUAUUGAUUAGCAUAUCAGAUUAUAUUAAACACAUACUAAUGAAAUGCUAUAAAUUUAUUCCUCUAAAAAAAACAACAGUUCACUUGAUCAGGAUGACAGUCCAAUAAAAGAGGUUCUGAUAGGGGUAGAGUACAACUGUGAGCUUGUGAUAAAUGACAAAAGGUGACGGGUAGCAUUUGGGUGAUAUAGAGUUGGGUGACAUUGGUGAUAUUGACCAAUCACAAUGUCACAAUGUUUAUGAAAAAGAGAGAAACACAAGCAUUGUGGCAUUAUGAUUGACCAAUAUCACCAAUGUCAUCCAACUCUAUGUCAUCCAAAUAUUUUCCUGUGACACCACAGAAACUUCUCCAAAACAUGAAAUCCAAAACGUGAAAGACGUGAGUUUCCCGGAAUAUCAAUGUUGGAUCGCUUUUCCUAGAUUACGAUUGACACGUGUGUAUCCACUAUUCGGAGAGCCUUUAGAUAUUGUGCGCAGCCCCGGGCCCACAUGCCUUUGUUUUCCACUACUUUUUUUCUAUCUCAUUUCCAUAUGUUUUCGUCAUUCCAUCUCAUUUUAAUAAUCGUUUUAAAGUUACAUCUGUCUUAAAAAUAUUAAUAAAAUUGAUUUUAAUUGUAAAAUUAGUAUGAUUUACUAAAAUGUUUGUAUUAAUUAUAGUUAAUGGAGUAAAAUUCAAUAAAUAAAUGUAUACUAAUGAAAAUAAAAAUAAAUGUUGCAUGAAUAUUCUAAAGUUACAAUUAUUUUAAGAUAUAAAAACUUUUUAAAGUGACAAUUAAAAUGAGAUAGAGGGAGUAUUGGGGUAAUAGUCUUUUUGUCCUUGAAUAUGUAAUGGGUAGCUAGUGUCACAAUAGUUCUUCAAUGUAUCAAAAUUUUAAAACAGUCUCUGAUUGUGCACUUCGUUCCUCAAUAUAUCACAAUAAAUACUUAUUUAUUGUCAUUUAAGUCUUUACAUAAAAAGAGUUAUCGUAAGUAUUGAGAUGUUAUUUUAGUGUCAGUGACUAAUUUGACUAACAAAGAACACAAUCAAAGACUAUUUUAAAAUUGCAAUGCAUUAAGGGAUUAUUGUGACUACUACUUACACAUUCAGAUAUCAAAAUAACUAUUACAUCGAGAAAUAUUUGCAUGCUGCAUGUCACAUGACUUACAUAAUAGACACACAUCAAUGUACAAUUUAAAUAUUUAAUAUUUUUUUGUUAUUUAUUAGAAAAAAUUAUAUAAAUUUGAUAUAUAUUUUUAAAAAAAAAAAGUCAAAUUAGCUCAUUGAAAUUAGAAUCAAAGGGAAUCGAACCUCAUGCAUUGAUAAGAGUACAUUUCAAGGUUCUAAGUCAAAACCAUCAAGCCAAUCCAAAAUGAGUUAAUAUUUAGAAAAUAUUUAUCGAGACAAAUUCAACAAUAUCUUAUAUGCUACCAUUUAUUUUUAUAUACUAUGUUUUUUUUUUAGAAAAUAUGGUUAAAGUAUUAGAUAUUAAUAUUACACAUUAUUAAUAAGGUCAUUGAGUUUCAUCAUCUUUGCUAUAUAGUUUUUUUUUUUGACGGUCCCUAUUUGUCUUGUGCCUGAACUUGAUCAUUAAUAAAUUUUACAGUUAAAAAUAUAUAUUUUAUAUGAUGUGGAGGGAAUAGUAAACAUCAUCUAAAACUUAAUAUUACAAAAUUUUGGAUUUAAAUCCGAUUUGACAUUGUCAAUUGUGCCAGGUCUUACAAAUUUGGUUGUUCAUUCUUGUUUUUUGGUUUUAUUUAUCUACUAAUAUUACAUCAAUUUUAAGAUUUAGUUAAAAACAAAAAUUUGUUAGACUUUAUUAUUCUCAUGUUUCACUUUCACAAGUUUCUGUCACGUAUAAAGAAACAUCCAACCGGGAAGUUAUAAACUUCAUACAAAAGAAGUACUACUAUAAUAUUUUAUUUUGAAAGAAGGACUACUAUAAUAUAUACAGCUCUAUUUGAAUUAGAAAAUGUUACUUAGGCCGAAAAAAUUCGCACAAAAUCUUCACGAUAGAUAUGAAUAAUGAAUAGCUAUUUAGCGGACAUUUUUGGUAUUUACUAGUGUGGAAAAAUGGGUCGUGCCUGAUUGGUCCGUUUAAUCCGACAUUUUAAAUGAAGGAUUUGAACUCGAUUAUUUAAGUUGAUCUACUCUAUUUCAUUUUUGUCGAAUUAAAAACGGGGCGGCCAAAACGGCCCGUGCCAUCCCCACUUUGCGAUCCUAGUAAUUACUUUUUCUCAUGUUUUAUGCUAGAUAGAAGAUACAACACUCUUGCUAAAAAAAAAUCCAACUCUCAUAAAUAAUUCAUGAUAAUAAUAUUCGUUGUGUCCCCGUGAGCAUAGCUCAGUUGACAAGGACAUGCAUUAUUAUACGUUGAGGUUGGGGUUCGAAUUUCGGACACCUCACUUAUUCACUUUAAAAAUGGUAAAUUCUAGCCACUUGAUAAAAAAAAAUAAAAAAUAUUCGCCGUAAAUUGCUUAUCUCUAAUCUCUUAUCUUUAUUCUUUACCUUAUCAAAUUAUGCCAAAAUUGACUUAGCUUUUGGAGUACCAUUUGCAUAAAUCUCAUCCUGUUUCAAUUGAGCCCCUUAUAGUAAACAGUGUGCUUAAUAUCUAGAUUAGUUGGUUCCUUCUAAAAGAAAAUCUAGAUUAGUUGGUCUUUGGUCCGUUACCAAGUUUAAUAAAGAAACGAAAGUUAAAUAAAAAAUUUAUCUUAAUUCUUUUUAAAAAAAGUUGUUUUAACUUUUACCUGUAUGACUUUUACCUUUGAUUCCAAAAUUUGUUUGUAUUAAUAGAUUAUUAUUAAUUAAAUAUUCCAAGUGGUAUAUGUGCGCCCAUAAAGAUUAUCAAAGUUUCUUUUAAAAAUUUGACUGUUUUUUUUAUUUUUUUGAAAGAAUUUUUUUGACUGUUAUAAAGCUAUAUAUACAGAAGUUUCUGUUUAAUAUAAGGAAUUAAUUGAUAUAAAAAUAUUUUCAACAAAAUGACAUUUUGACUUCUGAAAUAAAAAAAUACUAUUAUUUUUUCCAAUGACUUUCUCUUUGUUGAACAAUGACGUAUUAUAUUAUUCUUUAAUAGAAAAAAAAUGGACUUGGUAAAUUUUAUAUUUGUAUAUGGAAAAAAUUGAAUAAAUGGAAUUGGUAAGAGGAGAAAGUGGUGUCUAGUGAGUUCCACUUUUUUGACCAAAACCAAAAUGUAUUAGAAAAGUCUUCCACUCUUUCUAUUAACCUUUGCAACUUUCAUUUCUUCAUCACAAAAGCAACCAAAAAACCAGUCUUAGUUUCUUUGCUUCGUGUCUUGUCUCUUUGUUUUUUAAGGUACGCUUCUUUUCUUAUAUUUCUUGCAUGUUGUUUGUUUUCACUUCAUAAUGACGAGUUUAAAAUGGUUCCACUUCCUUUAUUAGUCUCUUUGAAUAUGUAAUAUGAUGUUUUUGGUUUGAUAGUUAAUUGAUGAAAGAAAAAACAUUGACCAUGUUAAUAAUUUUUAUUUUUAUUUUUCGUUUUGUUUUACCAUGGAAACAACAUAGGACAGGUUGUUUUCUGUUUUCUGUUUAGAUUUUGUUUGUAACGAUUUCUUGUUUCAUAUCUUACCUGUAUUCAUGAAAAUAUUUAUAAUGAUUGGUGUAUAACUAUAAAUGACAGAAAUUUUUGUUCAUCAAAAAAUAAAUAACUGAAAGAAUUAACAUUUUUCAAUUAAAGCAUAUGAUUGUUGUAAAUUUCAGGCUGUUCAUGAUUAUGUAAGUUUAAAGGUUUUUUGUUUUGCCAACAAUUACAUGCAUAGACAAAAUGGGAAAAUUUAGCCCUUUAAGUUGAUUUUAUCUGUUUUAACUUUGUUAUGUUAAACUGAGUUUUGUGGUUUAAAUUUGGAAAAAAAAUCAUGGUUGGUUCAUCAGCAUCUUCUUGAAUCUUUUUCUCUUGUGUGGUUUUUUCAGAAAUCUUCAUGUGCGGUGAUUCUAAGAAAAAAACUUGUCAAAAGGAUUUGAUUAUGGGUUGUGAGUUUGUGAAUGGGAAUAAAGAAGGGCAGUAUCAUGAGGUUUCUUAUUUGCUUGAAUUUUCAGCUGCAGAUGAUGUGAUUGGUUUCAAAAAUGCGAUUGAAAACGAGGGUUGUGAUGUUGAUGGGGUUGGUUUGUGGUAUGGAAGGAACGUUGGUUCAAACAAAUUUGGUUAUGAAGAGAGGACACCUCUCAUGGUUGCUGCUAUGUAUGGAAGUUUGGAUGUAUCGGCUUAUAUUCUUGGAACAGGUCGGGUUGAUGUUAAUCGGUCUAGUGGAUCCGAUGGUGCUACUGCUCUUCAUUGUGCGGUUGUUGGGGGUUCUGCUGCUUCCCCCAAGAUUAUCAAGAUUUUGCUUGAUGCAUCGGCGGAUGCUAGUGCUGUUGAUGCCAACGGUAGCCGACCCGUUGAUUUGAUUGUUUCUCUGGCCAAUUCUAUCUUCAAUCAAAGGAAGAGGAUGCUACAAGCUCUUUUGGAGGGGACAGGCGGUGCUGAUCAGACACAUCUUUUGUUUCCAGAGACAAUUGAUGACAUUGACGAAUAUCAAAGGCAAGAUGUAAACACACCUCGUGUUUCAAAAGAUUAUGCUGUUGAUGUCUCUCUUCCAGACAUUAAGAAUGGGAUAUAUAGUACCGAUGAGUUUAGGAUGUAUACAUUCAAAGUGAAGCCUUGUUCAAGGGCUUAUUCUCAUGAUUGGACCGAGUGUCCUUUUGUUCAUCCAGGGGAAAAUGCAAGGCGACGCGAUCCAAGGAAAUAUCAUUAUAGCUGCGUCCCUUGUCCUGAGUUUCGGAAAGGAUCUUGCAGUAAAGGAGAUUCUUGUGACUAUGCACACGGUAUUUUUGAGUGCUGGCUUCAUCCUGCGCAGUAUAAGACACGGCUUUGCAAGGAUGAGAGUUUGUGCAUGAGAAGAGUUUGCUUCUUUGCUCACAAGGUCGAGGAGCUUCGCCCCUUGUAUGCUUCUACCGGUUCUGCUAUUCCAUCUCCUAGGUCAUAUUACAGUACUGCUUCUACAUUAGAGAUGGGUUCAAUUAGCCCAAUGUCACUUGGUUCUCCAUCUGUUUUGAUACCACCCUCCUCAACGCCGCCUUUGACUUCAUCUGGAGCGUCGUCUCCCGUUGCUGCUACAGCCAUGUGGCAGACACCGUCUAAUGUUUCGAUCCCUACCCUUCAGCUUCCCAAAAGCAGGUUGAAGACUGGAAUGACCGCUAGAGAUAUUAAUUCAGAUAUUGCAAUGCUUAGGGUUGAAACUCAGCGGCGAAAGCAGCAACUACUGAUGGAUGAGAUGUCCGGUCUUUCCUCUCCUUCCAACUGGAAUCAUUCCAUGCCUAACAGUCCAUCUUUUCCGGUUUCUUCGACCAACCAUACCACCGGGGAACUAAAUAGGUUUUCGGGGGUGAAUCCUACAAACCUUGAAGACUUUUUCGGGUCUCUUGAUCCGUCAAUGUUGCAUAAAUUCCACGGAAUUUCACUUGAUUCUGCAGGAUCUCAGUUACAAUCUCCGACUGGAAUCCAAAUGCGUCCGAAUAUGAACCAGCAUCUGCAACAAAACUAUUCUUCAGGCCAUUCCACUUCCAGUGUGAUUGGAUCUCCGACUUAUAGGUUUCAGCCAUCCGGGGAGUUAUCCGCAUCGGCUUUGAAUGCAAGAGCUGCUGCAUUUUCAAAGCGGAGCCAGAGCUUUAUCGAGCGCGGUGUCACAAACCGUCAUUCUGAGCUUCAUUCUCCUGCUAAGCCUUAUGCUUUUUCUAACUGGGGCUCACCCGAUGGAAAUUUAGAUUGGACUUCACACGGAGAAGAACUGAAUAAGCUGAGGAAAUCAUCUUCAUUUGCAUUUCGAACCACCAGUACUCCUUUAACUCCAGCUGCAGCUAGGGCACAGGAAAAUGACUAUGAACCAGAUGUGUCUUGGGUUAAUACACUUGUAAAGGAUGCUACGCCGCAAGAAUCUCAUCAGUUUAGUGUUGAAGAUCAGAAAAGGAAACUGCAGCGCCAUCUUAACAAUGGAACAGAUUCGAUUCCGGCUUGGUUGGAGCAAUUGUACAUGGAUCAGGAGCAAAUAGUGCAGUGAAUGCAAUUUUAGAAGUUACUCACAAUGUUUUGCUCCUUUUUCGCAACUCUCUCAACUCGGCUCUUAAUUCAUUUUAUGAUUUUUUUGAAUCUUAUAGAAUUUGUUUAGAUGACAAUUUGUAAAACUGAUGGAAAAAAUAGUCCCCAAAAGCUAUAGAAUAUACUAUAGAAGUUGGGUAGGAUGCAAAUUUACUGCUCAAGGAACUACAUAUUACCAGAGUAAUUGAUCACAAUUUUUUCUGAUAUUUUGUCAUAUAGUCUAUUGAGUUGUGAGUUUUAACUUUCCAUUGACAAAUUUACAAAGAUGUAGUGAGAUUAAUGAUCAAUAUGAUGAGGCUAAAGAGGUAACAAUUUUCAGAAUGUCAAUUCUCAAUUUACAUAUCACACAAUUUAAUUUAUUUUUUGUCUUAACCAUUUGAUAUAUAAAGAAAAGAAAUCUUAAUAAUCUGGAGUUUGAUUGUGAGAAAAGAUUCUAAUAAUCUGGAGUUUGAUCGAGAGAAGUCUGAUUAAAAAUUGUUUUAGUUGGAUUUAAACUCGAAUACUCUCAAUUGAUUCGAUUUUCAUUGAAGUUUAUUAAGCACACAUCUUAAUUGGUUUUUUCUAAAUGUUUUGAAGUGCUAAACAAGUUAUGAAGUCAACUUUGGCGUGUUUGAUUUUUCCUAUUUACCAUUCACAGUGAUGUUUAAGUGGGUCCAGUCUAGUUGCAACUUAGGUGAGCUAUUGAGGGUCUACUUAAAUAUUGCUGUACUAUUUGUGACACUUGUAGCAGCCAAAUUAGACUGAUUUUUGUUGGAUUCUACUAUGUUUAGAUUUGUAUUGACAAACUAGCUUUAAAGUUAUUAUUUUUUCUCAGAGAUUUUAUUUAAGAUUCUAAAAUUUAAAAUAGUUCAACGUGUUUUUAGAGGUUUUAUGCGAUGUUUUUAGAGAUUUUUAUAGAAUGUUUAUGUCAUUUAAAUUCUAUAAUCCAAACUAUAUAGGACUCGCGAUAAAUUUAUAAGAUUGAAAAAGAAGCAAUCCUAACUUGAACGUGAUUUUAUUGAGUUACAUGAGAUAUACACAUGCAAGGCACUAUAAAUGUGUGACAUGUAGUAUAACUUUCUAAUAUUCCUAAACAUGUAAAAUGUUACUUUUUUUUUUGAAAGAAUGUAAAAUGUUACUAUUGGUUAAUGUUUUGUUGAAGCAUAUAAACAAAUAAAAUCCUUUAAAAUUUGUUUAAAAAUAGACUAAUUUUGUAGACAGCAAAGAUUUUAUUUGCAUUUCUUACUCUUUUUAUUCUUGAGCUUUGUAGAAUCAGCAUAGUUUCAUUUUCUGUUAGUAUAUUAUCUUGUAUUUUUUAAAGUUUACAUUCAUUUGAGCACUAAGAAAAAGCUUUUUACAAAGUUUUUGUCGUAUUCUAAUUGGCUUUUAUCGCACUUUGGCUUUUUUCAUCAACCUUUUUCUUGGGAUGACAUAAUGAAACUUAUAGUUCAGGUCUCUUGACAUAAUUUUGGUCCACACGUUAAUAUUUGUUUAAUAUUUAGGAGCACUAAAAAGUUACAAGUCAAGUAAGUUACGCUUCUUCUAAAACUCUCAUGUUUGAUUUUUAUUUAAAAGUAACCAAAUAUUUCUACCAUUUAAGCCAAUAUCCAUGGCUUUGGCUGAUUCACUAGAAUAAAUUUGAGUAGCCUGAUAUGUUUACUUGAUUUUAAUGUUCUCCACCUUUGAAGUUUUUCCCCCUCAAUACGUUUAACAAUCUAAACUUUGUUUGGAUUUGGAUUAUGUCAUUACUUGCGAUUUUUUGUCAAAUGUAGCUUCAGUUUUUUCCACACAAGGGGCCCCUUGUGCAGAAAAUUAGAGGUAGCUUCAAUAUUUUACUAGUGGAUACAACAUUUGUCCCUCUGUAUGGAAAAAAAAAAAAUACCAUCUCCACUAUACAUGAAGUUGUCUACUUGUGAUGUGUGAAAUGCAUUGUAUAUUUAGAUGAACUUUGUAUAUUUGGUUCGUCUUGGAUCGGUUCGGUUAAUUAGUUGGUUUGAAAAUACAAUUAAAAAAAAAAUCAUAUUCUUUUAAGUUUGUAUUUCCUAUAUACAACUCACCCAAAUAUUUCAUGGAACUUUGUAUUUCAUUUUUUGUUUUUCAUUAUCUUUGAUUUUCAAACAACUUUAAAUUCAUGAAACACAACUUCAUCAAAAUCAAAUUUUUCAAUCCUCCAUAAUAAUUCAUACACAAAUUUAUUUAUAAUCAUUCAUGAAUCAAACACAAAUUCCAAAAGACAUCCAGAAAUUAAAAUAUACUCAAAACAAUACUCCAUGCAAACUAAAAUUUAAACAUCCUAAAAUUAAGUUUCUCGUCAAAUUUUUAAAAAAAGUCCACACUAAAAUUUCAAUUUCAAUUCACAUUCACAAUCCUAACUUUACUUAAGUGUGUGUAUGAGGUGUAAGGGAAAUGAUAUUAGUAAAUUGAGAGGGCGCGGUAAGAAUCGAUUCGGUUCAUUAGUUCUUUGGGUUUCAAAAUCAAAAUCCAAGAACUGAACCAUACUAAAAUAAUUUAGGUUGAUUUAGUUUAAUUUUAAACAGAACCAAACAAGGUCGAAUAUUUUUUUUGUUUGAUUCGGUUUGGAGUUUCGAUUUCGUUGAUUUGGUCUAAACCAUUUACAUCCCUAACUUUUAUUAGUACUUUGUUAUACAAAAAAUAAUGUUACGUAACAUUAUUAUUUUAAGAUCCAGAGCUAGUAACAACCUGUUGUCGUUUAGGACAAACUCCCAAGAAAAGUAAAAUGGAAAUUAUAUUUAGGGUUAAUAGUGUUUUUUACCCCUGUAAUAUAUGUUAUUUUUGGUUUUCGCCCCUAUAAAAUUUUCGGUUUGAUUUGCACCCUUGUAAAAAUUUUAUUUUCCGGAAAACACUCCUAAUAGGCCAUUUUCAGAAUUUUUUUUCCAAGAAAUUUUGGUUUUUGAAUGGCUUAUUAAGGAUGUUUUCCGAAAAAUAAAAAUUUUACGAGGGUGCAAAUCAAACCGAAAAUUUUAUAGGGACGAAAACCGAAAAUUACAUAUAUUACAGGGUGAAAAAAACUAUUAACCCUUAUAUUUAUAAUGAGAAAAUGAAUUACAUCAAAAGAUAGGAGGGGGUACAUUUGAUAAGGCUUACUAUAAGCCAUUGAUUUGGUUAUAGAUCAAUUAAUUUCACGAGUUCCUCGAGCAGAAUCAGUUCGGAACAAAUUAUUUGAUCUAUAACCAAAUAAAUGGCUUAUAGAAUAGUCCAUAAUUCAUAAUUAGAACCUAAGGAUCUUCUGAAAGCCAAAAUUUGCAUUUACCGUUAUAUUCGAAGCACGAUUCAUCAACACUAGAAUUGGUGAAAGAAUAUGGAAUUUAUUAACCAUAAAUCUGCGAAAACAUGAUAAGUUUUGAAGUCUAAAACAAUAAGCCGCAGCGCUGCAAUAGUCGCUGCAACAGACAUGAUGCCAUAGAACCAAAUGUUGAUCAAAUGCCAAAGCUUUCGAAUGGAUGUUAGUUUGUUCUUAUUCGAAGUCGUGUUAGCACGUCUAACCAAAACUCGAAAUGACAAGUUCUUAAAAGCCAGAGCAUUCCCUUUGAUCCCAUGUUUGGUAUCAAACUACUCAUACAUUGAACAAAUUCAAGUUAUCAAGUAUUUCGCGUCAAAUGUAGUAUUUUCGCCUCUUUCACGGUUUUGAAGUGAAACUAUCUACUGCUUGUCAGCUGAAACAAUUGGAGGUUUCUCAAAAUAUCAGAAGAAGACUAAAAUCACAAAAGAGUGGCAUUAUAUUCCAUGGUAAGCAGAUAAAAUGAAAGAAGAUGUUCAGAAUAGAGAUAGAAGGAAUGAUGAUGAAACUCAGAACACAAUUGCAAGAUCUGGACAACAAUUUCAGAUGUACCGACCGGGGAAACCAGAAACAUGUACAUUAUUCUCUUCACACAAAAGUACAUUAAUCAAAUGAGUGUCAAUGAAAGCUAUGACAAUAUAUGCAAGGCGUAAGACCGUCGAAAAUCCUAGCCAAAUUCCAAGAAACGAAAGAUGAGGAAUACAAAUGGUAAACAUUGCACACACAAGUCCAGCUAUAGAAAUAAAACGUGGAAGCUUCAUUUGAUCAUCAUCCCUAAAUAGAACAUAAAUAGCCUGCACAACAAGGAUAUUUACAAAAUCUUCCCCAAAAAUAUGUUACACUCAAUUUGAUUUCAUACAAAAUCUUCAUCUUACAUGAAAGAUAUAAUAUUACAUAAAAAACCGUCUAGAAGUCCUAGCUCAACUUGUAAAUGCCGAAAUUGCAAGGCCGGACAUCGUGACCCGGGUUCGCAUAGAUUGAGAUAGUUUGGGAUGGAUUGAUAUAUUUUGAGAUAGUUUGGCAUAGUUUGAGAUAGUUUAAGAUAGUUUGAAAUGGUUUGUAAAUUUUGGUCUUUAUAAAUAUAUAAACUUUUUAUUUUAGUUCCUCUAAAAUUUUCCUUUAACUUAUAGUUUGUAUAAAAUUUUCAAUUUUUACAUUUGGUCUCUAUUUUUAAUUAAUUUUUGUAUUUUUUUAUGAAAUUGAAUAUAAACGUAUAGAAUAUUGUAAAAGUCACUCCAAAAAAAAUCAUAAUUUUUUAUUAAAACAUAAAUUAAAUAUGAAUCUUUUACCAUAAAAAAUAUAAAAAUUCAUAUUUAAUACAUGUUUUGGUAAAAAAAAUCUAAUUUUUUUUUUGGAGAGAUCUUUAUAAUUUUAUAAAUUUUUCUGCAAAUUUUUAUUCAAAAAUAUAAAUUCUACAUAUGAGCUUACUUUAAAGAAGGGAUCAAAAUGAAGAUGAAAUUUUUUUGGAGGACUAAAAGUUGAAGAAAUUUUUUAAAGGUACUAAAGCGAAAAAAUUAACAUAUUUAUAGGGACUAAAAACAUAAUUAACCUUAUUUUAAUUGAGAAAUAUAAAAAAAUAUUUUUAACUGCCUUUCUUUAAUUGUGUCCCAUAGUUUGACUUGGUUUUAUAAGACAUGUUUUUUCUAGAUUACCCUCUCUUAUUUAGAGGGUAUUUUACGCUCUCAUGAUAUCAACCAAUCAAAAUGUAAUAUACAUUGGCAACAUUAAAUGUCAUAAAUGACUCAAUUUUUUUCUAAAAAAGAAUCAAUUAUAAUCAUAAGGUAACUUUUAAUUUUUUAUUUAAUUAUAGACAUGAUUACAUUAGAGAUCAUUUAUCUUAUUUAUUUGUUACACUUGGGUCCUUUAUCUUUAUUUUUUUUCACUUAGGUCAUUUAUCUCUUAUAAAAGCACAUAUACAUCAUUUUUCUCAUUUUUUUAAUUAUAAAAAAUACAUAAUUUUAUUUUUUAAAAUAUCUUUUUAUUAAAAAUAAAACAAAUCCAGAAAUAUGAUGAAGAUGUUCAUCAUCUUCAUCUUCUUCCUUUGAAUCUUCAUCAUCUUCGUUGAAUCAAAAGAAUUUCUACACAAAUAUAUCUCCAAAUAUCAUGAAUUAAUGUUAUAUUCACCUCAAAUUUUCUUUUAAACACAAAAAUCAAACCCCUAUAGAGAAAGAGAUUUAGUUUUAUCACAACAAAAAAAAAUAGUUAUAUAAAUUGUCAAAGCUGUAUAUUACUAUUUUUAUUAUUUUCUAACUCAAUAUUCAAGUCCGACAUAAAAAUAACCUCAAAAUUGAUAGCAACUUUGCAUAUCAAUUUUGUUGUUUCCAGAACAAUCUUAACUUUCGUAAAGCCUAACCCUUCCGUCAGUGACUAAGCCUCCAGCAUCCGCCUUGCAACAUUUGUGAAAUUAAGAUUUUGAUUUUUGUGUUUAAAAUAAAAUUUGAGGUGAAUAUAAUAUUUCGAGAUAUAUUUAAAAAAAAUUUUUUUUGGGAAAAUUACACUUUUAGUCCUUUAACUUAAUUUCAGGUAACAAUUUGGUCUUUUAUCUUUUUUUAUUUUAAUUUGAUCCUUUUUGUCCAUUUUCAUAUACAUUUUCAAGCUUCGAAUCUAAUAUUUUAUGCAAACAUAGACAAGGAUCAUAGAUUUGAAGACUCAAGGACCAUAAGAAAAUAAAAUCAUGAAUUUUAAGCUUAAAAAUUCAUAUGAAAAUAGACAAAAAUGACCAAAUUGAAAUGAAAAAAAACGAUAAAGGACCAAACUGUUACCCGAAAUUAAGUUAAGGGACUAAAAGUGUAAUUUUGCCAAUUUUUUAUUUAUUUAAAGAAGAUGAUUAAGAUUCAAAGGAAGAAGUGAAGAUGAUGAACAUCUUUAUCAUAUUUUUGGAUUAUUUUUUUUCAGUUUUAAUAAAAUAUAUUUCUAAAAAUAAAAUUAUGUAUUUUUUAAUUAAAAAAAUGUGUAAAAAGAUGUAUAUGUGCUUUUAAGAGAGAUAAAUGACCUAAACGGGAAAAAAUAAAGAUAUAUGACCAAAGUGUUACAAAUAAAUAAGAUAAAGGACCCAUAAUAUAAUAUUGUCUUAAUUAUAUUUAGUGUUCAAUCUUAAUUAAUUUACACUACAGGACUGGCUUAGAACAAUUAAAAUUUCACAUCAAAUUUCUUUCAUCUGAAUGUCCUUAAAUUUAUCAGUUAUAUUCAUAAAAUUUAUUCAUCCCAUUUUGAUUGUUCAAUUUUGUCGUUCCCAACUGCCGCAUUUUUCAAUUUUCGUGAGAAUCGUCAUGAUUUCAAAUAUCGUGAGAAUUGCCUUUACUUCCAGUACAACGUCAAGUAUGAUGACUUGAUUUUUCUUUUUGAUUUGAUUUUUCUUGGUUGUGAGGUAGUUAAUUAUAACAAUUGAGUAAAUCAUCCGUUGUACUUUGAGGGCUGCUAGCAGGUGUUGCCGCUGUGAUGCUGUGGGAGUUUGCUAGCAUUUUUAUGGUUGCUGCUGAAAUGGUUAUGUGAUGAGAUUUUUGUUCUUUUAUUUGGAUUUAAAAGCUUUUGCUGAUAGUGAGACAGGUCUAUGCGUGUUAACAUAUUUUAUUAGGUUGACUGCUUAAAUAAAAUAAAAAAGUCACGAUACCUGACGCAGUUCUAGAAACAACGACAAUUCUCACGAUAAUUGGAAAUUGCGGCAAUUUGGAACGACAAAAUUGAACAAUUAAAAUGUGAAGAAGAAUGAAAAAGAAACAAAAAUUGAUCAAUAUGGAAGAAUAAAGAAGAAGAAAUUUGAAAGAAUGAGAUGUUUUUGUUCUCACGUUCGGGGUUCUGGAAUGGAAGAAAUUUUAUGAAUAUAAAUGAUGAAUUUAAGGACAUCCAGAUGAAAGAAAUUUGAUGUAAAAUUUUAUUUGUUAUAAGUUUUAUAGUGUAAAUUAAUUAAGAUUGAACACCUUAAUAUAAAAAAAAAAUUAAUAAAAAUUAAAAGUAUUAAAAGUUACCUUUUGAUUAAGAUUAACUCGCCUUCAAAAAUAAAAUAAUUAAGACUAACUCAUUUAUUUUUAGAAAGAAUCUACUCAUUUUUUUUUUAAUUCCAAUCUUUUGAUAUUUCUUGAAUGUUGCUAUUAUUAAGGAUUCAUUAUUGCUUGACUCAACAAUAACGUGACACGAGAAGUUUAGGGACAACAAUAGAUACAAACGAUGUUUUUUCAAUUAGAGAGAAGAACAUAAGAAAAGAAGAUAUUAAAAGGAGAAGAACAGAAGAAACAUAGCAUUAGAGAGAAGAGAAAUAAAGUAGAACUCAUCGAUGGUGUUGAUGGAUGCAAUUGGUGAUGUUGGUGUUGAGAUUGAGGCGACGGUGGUAAUGAUUCGAAGAGGGAAUAAUUAUCAAUCGGUGGUGACGAGAAACCCUAUUUUUUAGGUUAGAAGAGGCAAUAUGUUUUUGAUUUUAUUUUAGGGAAGCAAUAUGUUUUUUAUAGUGUUGUCGGUCUUUAUGUAUUUUUAUUUCUUAUUCUUUUAUUACUUUUUUUAAAAUGGAAAUAUGUAAGACAGAAAUCACAUAUUAAAAAAAAGGGAAAAUCAUGCAUACGUAUCGCGAUAAAGUAUCGGUUUAUUCAGCCAUAUUGAAGUAUAAGUUAGCCGUAUCCGACACGUAUUGUUUUUUUUAUUUUGCAAAAAAAAUAAAUAUUAAUGGCCCGAUACUUCUCUAAUACAUAUGUCUGAACGUAUCGAGAUGUAUCAAUGUCGGAUACGCGUCGGACACAAUUCUUCACUAUUUUAAGAGUAUCGAGGCUUCACAAAUCUAUGUUUGAAAUGAGGAUUUUAGUGAUUAAUAUUGUUGUUGGGCAUCAUACUCUUGGUUUUACAAAUACUCUCUUGUGAUUUGGUAACUAUAAUUUGAGGCGUACAUAAUUUUGUAACAUUUUGUUGUUUUUGAUUUUUGAAGAAACAUUUUGUUGUUUAUGAUAUUUUGAUGCAGAGAUGCAUGAUUUUGAUGAAUGAAAAUGAGCUUCAACAGAAUUCAGUUUCGUCCUUUAACUUCUUAUGCUCAAUUCAUUUCAGUCCCUUAUUUUAAAAUUAAAAAGUCAAUUUGGUCCCUUACUUUGUGUCAAAAGUUAUAUUUUUUUGGUCCCUUACAUUUUCUAUAAAGUAAAAUUUGGUCCCCAAUCCGAAAUAGAUGAUUAUGACAGUAUAACUGGAUCAAAACUAACUCAAACCAUAACAUAAUAUAACCUGGUCAAAAUAGUAUAUCAUUAAUAAUAGGUUAAAAAGUGAUUCACAACGAAGACAUAAUAAAAUUCAAAAUAUAUAUCUUAUAAGUCCUAACUCAAUCCAUAAAAAUAUUGAAACUGUUAAGCCGUACAUUAUAACCGGAGUUCGAACCCGGAGUUUAUGAUAACUUUGCCAUCCCUUCCAUCUCUAUAUAGAACAUUGAUAAUGUAACCAAAAAAUAUAGAACAUGACCCUUGUUCUAAAUUCCUUUUUUUCUAUGGCCUUCCCAGCAUCUUCUUAAUGGGAGGUUGCUGCAGAUCUGUAUAUUGUGUCCGCACCCACAAAUUUGAGCCAUUACAUGGACACACUGAAGGUAGGUAAACUGCUUCAUAACAUGCCUUCUUGUAGCAUGCCGGUAUCAAAAGACUUAACCAAAUUAUUGAGUUACAAUAAUCGUGUAUAUAAGUUUGUGGUUAGUGUGGUUCUGCCAAUGGGUGUUUAAUUUUAUAAAAGUCAUAUAUCCAUGUAAGUAUAAGAAAAGUGAUUAUUUAUAGGGAUAACAUAUUAAGAGAGUGUGUAAUUACAUUUAGUCAAAAUCAAUAAAUGUUCCACAAUAUUUGAUAUUCAAUUAAUCCAAAAUUUAGCAAAAAUGUGACUAUGAAAAUUCAUAAGGAAAUACUCCCUCCGGUCCUUAUUAUAAGAAAAAAUUAACUUUUUAGAUACAAUGAAUCAAAAAAGUUAAUUGUUUCUUAUAAUAAGGACCGGAGGGAGUAAGAAACUCAAGAAUCUCCAAAUUAGAUUAACAUAUAUCAAUAAACGUUUCUAUGAAUGUUGGAUUCACCACAAUGAAACGUUUCCUAAGGUUAGAUAAGCUUCAACGCUCAACAAACAUUAACAGAGUAUUUACAAAUCACACAUCAAAGAGGUUCUCAUGUUGGUGACGGAUGAUUUUGCUAUGUGAAUCAACUUCUUAUCAACUGAAUCAAUCUUAUUGAAAUUAACUUAUGGUUUUAGAUAGAUUAAUAUUGCAGAUAACAAUGAUUUUAUUUGCAUUUACAGUUUUAAACGUGUUUGUUUUCUUAUCUUCUUUAUAUUCUUGGUCAUGAUCUUGUAGUCAGAAUAUAAGUAUAGUUUAUCCUUAAAAUAAAGUAUAGUUUAAUUUCCUGUUAGCAUUAUCUUGUAUUUUUUCAAAGUUUACAUUCAUUUAAGCACAAAGAAAAAGCUUUUUAUAAAGCUUUUGUCGUAUUCUAAUUGGCUUUUAUCGCACUUGGCUCUCAUAAACCCUCAAUGAGUUUAACAAUCAAAAACUUUGGAUUUGGAUUCUGUCAUUUUGCUAUUGUUUUUCUCCAAUGUAUUAUGUAGCUUGAGUUUUUUCCACAUAAGGUACCUCUUGAAAUUGAAGUUGUCUUAUGUGAAAUUCAUUGUGUAUUAAGAUGAACUUUGUUAUUUCAGCGUAGUGUCGAUACUUUCAACCAUCUUUAUAUUUUUUAGUGUACUAGUAUUUUCACCCAUGCAUUGCACGGGCGAAAAAGGAUUUAUUGUGACCGAACGUACAACCAAAAUAAAAACAUAUAAUGCAUUUCUUAGACAAAUCAAAUGUUCUUGUCAUCACAAAAAUUUGUCUUAUUGUAAUAAGCAAAUGUUGAUUCUCAAUACAUAAUGUAUAAAUGAGUAAAAAUAUAUCCAAUAUAUUGAAUACAAAUGUUAAAAUCAACAUAAUUUUAUACUAAUAUUAUAUUUAUCGGAAAUGUGUUAUCAUUUGUUAUUUGACAGGUUGAAUUCAAUUCUUAAAUAUUCGACAAAUAACUAUUUGGCAAGUUGAAUUCAAUUCUUAGAUAUUUGGUAAAUAUUGUGCUUGAGGUUAUCCUUCGUGUUUUUUGAAAGAUAAAUUAAGAAGCCAUCUUAUUGCAAUAAAUAUAAUAUUUAGACUUUUUUUUACAAUAAAAAAAACUUCACUUAAUAAAAACAAAACACUAAAAGAAAUAUAUCAAAAAAUAAAAUCUUACACAAUUAAAAUUUGGACUUGGUAAAAAGUCAUUGUCGAUAAUAGCUUCAACAUCUACUUCACAAAUAAGUAAGUAUUUGUUAUGCUUCACACAAAUCAUAAAUCCUUUGUAUCAUACUUUUAGUUACUAUAACUUUUAAGAAAUUUAAUAGGAUCGGUAUAUGAUUUACAAAUUUGAUAAAGAAUUAGAUACACAAUAGGCACAGUAAACCAAAUUGGGUAUAAAAAAGACUAAACCUUGAGCAAAUAAUAAUGUUUAAAGUCUUCUAUUAGUACUUUGUUAUACAAAAAUUAAUGUAUAAGCAACAUUAUUAGUACUUUGUAAUAAAGAUUGCUAAAAUUAAAAAAACAAUGAAAGGAAGAAUUAAAAUAUUUUAUUCUUUACUAAUUUACUUAGCUUGUUUUACAUUCUAAAUGUGCAAUACUCUCAUGAGAUUACAAACAAAAACUAACAAAUUGAUCUAUAACUUCAUCUAAUAAUUCAUCUAAAAUCUCUAACUCAAAAUCAGCACUUAUAUUUUCUAAAUCAUUUUGUUUCCUCUUGACUUCAUGCAAUUCACUUACCAAUUCAUCAUCAACUAGCUUGCAAAUUUUAAUCCAAAUAUCUACACAUUCAUUGUUAUGCCUCUCUUUUUUCCUUGAUCCUUCAUUCAAAUUGUUCUCAAUUUCCUUAACUUUACUCUCUUCUUCAUUCAUAAAGUUACUAUCAGAAUGUAGAAUAAAUAGCUGGUCAUUUUCAAGUACUGGUGACAAUUUUCUUCUCCAACUCAUAUCAACAUCACAAAGAUCUUCCUCUGCAACAUGUUUAUAUAUGUAAUUAGUUAGCAAAUUUAAAACAUGUAAAAAGGAAAAAAAAAAUUAAGCUACACUAUGUAUGUAAAUUCUAAGGAUAAUUGUGUGUAUGAUUUUGUUUGCAUUCAAAUUAAAAUGAGACAAACUAUUAGGUCAUGUUUGGAUAAAAAGUUUAAUUAAACAACUUAUAUCAUUAUCACUUAUCGUAUAAGCACUUAUGUAUUAAACUAUUUCCAAAAAAAAGAUAAAAUCAAUUUAUAUUAUUUUCAUUCAAGGUAUAAGACAUUUUCAUAAGUUAUCCUCUAUGAAGCACAUAUACGGACACGGACACGACACAGAUACCGACACGCCGACACAACUAAUAAUUUGAAAAAAAUCACAUAACUCAUUGUAAUUACAAGUGUCGGUGUCAUGUCCUGGUGUCGGACAUCAGGACACGAUAUGUGCUUCAUAGGUUAUCCUUAAAAGCUUCUAGAAAUAAUCUAAAACCAACUUAUUAUGAGCAUGUCAAUAGCUCUUUACUUGUCUCUAAACUCAAAUAAACAUAACCAAACAUGCAUUAAAAGUUAAGCUAAGAUGAAGAAACAAACCUGUUCCUGAAACAUCAUGCUCAAAAUCAAAGACAGAAACAGGACUAUAAUCUUCUGAACUACAUUCACUUUCAACCUUCUCUUCAACACAACAUGUUUUUCCUUUCUUUCUCUUCUUCACUUUCUCACCAUUUCCAACUGCCUUAAACAAACUCUUCUCAAAAUGAAAUUCACCAUCAUCAUUCACCUUUUCUCUCUUGUUUCUCUUCACUUCACCUCUCACUUCUCUUUUCUUCUCUUUUCUUCUUCCUUUGGACUUGAAUUUUCUAUUCUCACCUCCACUUUCAAAGCUAAACACCAAAAAGUUCUCAUUUUCAAGCAAAUGAAAAGCUUGUGGCACAUAGUUCAAUGACUUGCAAUGUGUAGGUGAACUUGGUUUUGAUUCAGAAACUUUAUCUUCUUCCAUUGAAUCAAUCCCAUUAACCUUGCAACUACACCAGAAGAAGAAGAAGAAGAAAUUAUAGUUCUUGUAGUAGUAGGAGUGUUAGUCUUAAAUUUUUGAACUUUUUCACUUACAAUGAACUUUGAAUGAAACUCUCUAAUCCUAUGAAAAAUGGUUGUGAAACACCCUGCAGCAACAGUUUUUGAGCUGCAAAAUGUUGAGUCAAAGCUAAAGUUUGAUGAAGAUGAUGGUGAUGAUGAUGAUGAAUAAGAUAAUGUUAAGAGCUUCAUGUUUAUAUGAUUUAGAAGAAGAAAAAAAAAGAAACCAAAAUGGUUCUUUUUCUUUAUACUUUUGGAUUUUGAAAUUCUCCAAUGAUAAAAAGCAAUGGAAGAAUCUAAAGUAUAUGAAUAUGAAUAUAAAGAUUUGAAUUUUGAUAUAAUGAAGAGAAGGGUCGCGGGAUUUUUAUUUGAAUAUGUGAGAAAAAGAAAGUGUAAAGAUUAGAAUGGAAUAUGGUGUACUAUGCUUUUGGUUAUUGAAAUGUGACAAGUCAUUUUUUUGUUAUGAAUUUGUCUUUUUAUUUCCUUGUUUGGACCAAACAAAAGACAUGUCUUGGGGCACGUUAAGAGGACACUUUUUUACUCUGCCUCCUUUGAAGUUCAAAUGGUGAAAAGAAUCAAUGAGAAUGUGAUGAGGUAUGAAGCACAUAUACUUCUUGGAUUAGGCGUGUCUCAGUGUCGAUAUAAUACCGACAUUUAUAAUUACAUUGAAUUACGUAAUUUUUUAAAAUUACUAGUUGUAUUGGCGUGUGAGUGUCCGGUGUCCACAUCUAUGUUUCAUAGGGGAUGAGUGUGUUUGUUUAGAUUUUUACUUUUUUUACUUUAUUGAUUUUGAUGAUAGAUUAGAAAGAAAGUGAGGAUUGGAUCAGAUUAUUGUAUGGUCUAAGCUAGGCAGUGAUUGUAUAGUUUGUUUUGUAGUUUUGUGUGGAGGGAGAGACAUUUGACAGAUUGUGUUUUGUUUUUGUAUAAUGUCAGUGGUAUGAUCAAAUUCUUUUGGGGUUUGAUGUUAAAGAUACUGUCAUUUUGAUUGUGUUUGUUCCAACAUAGUCCCUAUUAUUUUGUGGGAUUGAAGGUUAGUAAUUUGAUAUUGAAGUGGGACAUUUGAUAAGCACUUAUAAUUGAAUUGAAAUUGGUUGGUUAAAAUGAUGGAAAAGGAUAUCAACCAUUCCUUUUUAUAGGCUAAGGAAUAAUUUUAGGUUUAAUCUUCAAUUUAUGAGAUACAAGAAUUUUCAACUCAUCAUGAUGACAAUUAUUAAAUUUAAUACACUUUUAGUUCCUCCUAAUUUUAUGAUUCAUGAUUUUAACUCCUUGCUUUAAAAUUCCAAAAGUAUAGUGCUCCAUAUUUGAAAAUUUUAGAAUUUUUCUCCAACCUUAAAUUGAGGUUUUUUUAUAGGCAAAUGUUAGUUUAUUAAUAUAUUUUUUUAAGGGAGUUUAUUAAUAUAUUGUUAGAGGGGACAUAGUUAGUUUAUUAGUAUAUUGUUAGAGGGGAAAAGAAAUGUUAGCAGUCAGGAAUCGAACUCAGAAACUCAUUUUUAAACUCCUCCAUUGUAUAAACUUACUAACAACUAGACUACACCUGUAAUGCCCUAUUUAUUUAUUAGAUUAUUCUAUUGAGUUUAGAGUAUAUUUAUAUGAUUUAUGUGAUCAAAAUGAUUAUGUGGUGUGUUGUUAUUUUAUUAAGUGGUGUUAUUUAUUUAUUUGAUAGAAUAAGAUUUGAAAAUAAAAUAAGAUUAAGUUGUGGGGGUUGUUUUGAGAAUUUAGAGAGUUUAAUAGAAUAAGUGAGAAAUAGGAUUUAAUUGGAGUUUUUGGGUUAAAUAAGAAUUAAGUGAAUAAAGUGGGCGUUAAUUAAAUAUUGGAAGAUUAUAUUUACUGAGAAAAAGGAGAAAAUAUGGUUAGAAGCAGUUUCACGUACAAACAAUUUUUGGGAGAAAAACCAAGAGAAAGCUAGGAGAAGAAUCAAGAGAGAGUUGCGGAUCGAUUUUCUUAAGGUAAGGGUAAGACUAACUUUCAAUAAUUAUAGUGUAUGUAAAUUCUGAAAUUGAUUUAACAUGUGGGUUGUUCUUGAUUUUGGAAAUUGGGAAUUAGGUUUAGAAGUUGUAAUUGGUUGUUUUAAUUGUAGAAUUGAUUGUUGGAAUUAAGAUGUUAAUGAAGUUAGGGUUGUGAAAAGAAGUUAGAGUUUUGAAAAGAAGUUAGGGUUUUGAAUUGCAAUUUGAUUGUUGAAAGUGUAGGCAAUCCAAUGAAUUAACAUAUGAUAUGAUGUUCAGGUUGUAGAAUAAUCAUAGGUUAAGUUUCCAAACAAAUUUGGGAGUUUGUGUUUGAGUAUAAUGAAUUAAUAGUGAUUCUUAAGUGAAAAACGCAUUGUUAAACUGAUUUUUGAACUGCUGUGAAGCUCAAAAUCGGCCCCCGAGUUUUCAAAAUCGGCCACCGAUUUUUGAGCUGAUUUUCUAGCUUUGGUUCGACGAAAAUCGGCCCCCGAUUUGUCAAAUUCGGCCCCCGAUUUUCUGUCAGGCAAAUCUGAAAAUAUUCGUAAUUUUCACCAUUUUCUGUUUUGAAUUUGCUUUCGGUGUAAACAUAAAAGUUUUAGAUAAUUUUGUUAGCUUUCCAAUGGCUUUGGUUUGACUUGAAAAUGAUUUUUAUUUUUUGAGAUAUGAUGAAAAUACUCCAAGGAGGUUUUAGUGAACCUUAUGAAAAUUCAGCAUAACCGUUUCUAAGUUAACCCAAAAUUUAUGGGAUAAUUUCAACCCUCAAAACUAGAAGUACUAUGAGUUCAAUUAAGGUGUUUAAGAGUAUUUAACCCAUGUUGUGAGUUGAUCCUUGGGGUAGGAAUGGAGGUUGAAUAUAAUAUUACUGAUGAUCUGUGAAGCUAUUAUAAUAUGAUUUAAUGUUCGUAGUAAUGUAAUAUAUUUGUAUAUGCAUUAUGUGAAUUAUAUAAGAUGUUUAAGUUGUUGUUGAUUAUCAUUUGAUGUUGUUAUAUCUUGAGAUGUUUACGUUGUCAUCGUCGAAUCGUUGAAGUCGUUGUUAAUGACAAACCAUAAAAUAUUAAUGAUUAUGUUGUCGUUUAUAUUAUUAUAAGAUGAUGAAUAUGUUGUUGCUUAUGUCAUUAUAAGAUGAUGAUUAUGUUGUUGUUUAUAUUGGUUAUGAGUUAAUGAUGAUUAGAAGUGGAUUGGACUAUUAAUGAAGCAUUAUAUGAAGAAUUAUUAUUAUUAAUUAACAAUGUUUAUGUUGUUUAAUAUAAUUGUUGAAUUAUAUGCUUAAUAUUAUUGUUUGUGAAAUCUCACCCCUUCUGCUUGGAAAUGUUGCUCUUUGUAUGAGUAACUUGCAGAUGAUCGAGUUUAAGCUGCUGUUAGAUUGCUGUCGUGAGUGGACUAUCUCUCACGUGUGUCUUUAGGUGCUCUGAUACGUCACGGGAUGGGAACUUUGUUGCAUGUUUUUCUAUUCCUUACGUAUUACUUUAUGAAGUUUAUGACUAUGUUUUUAGACUUGAUUUCUAUGAGAUAUUUAUGAUGAGGCAUUCGUGUCAAAGACUACUAUUUUUAGAUGUUGAAAUAAAUUCCGCUGCAAAGUUUUGAAUAUUUAUGUUGAUUGAACUUUGAAGGAAAAUUAGUUAAUUAUUCCAUUUAUGAUUUUUAAGAAGUGUGACAUUCCGUUUAUGUGAAUUACUCUGAUUAUUUAAACGAAAUUUUUAUGUUGGGAAAACGACGUGUUACAACACGUUUAGAAAUAGUCUAUUUUUAUUGAUGUAUCAAGUUAAAUAAUGAGUAGACAAGUCAUAAGGCAAAGUGUCAAUGCAUAUGUGAAUUUAAUAUUAUUUUACUUUUGAUAUCUUUAAAUUUAUUGUUUAAAAAAACUUAAAAUAGAAAAGAAAUGUAAAAUCCUAAAAUAUUAUAUUUUCCAAAAAUAUGCAGUCAUUUGUCACAUUAUUAUUUUUUUUUGUCAAAAAAUCACAUUAUUCUGUGACUUGUGAGCUUAUUAUUCAUCAAUACACAUAACAAAAAGAAACUCAAAAUUCAAUGGUGGAAAUUUAAAAAAAAAAAAAAAAAAAAACUCGGAGAUCAAAGAGAGUGACGAUAACGAUCAACACACUUCAUCCUCUUCUUCAUAAGAGUGAUUUUUGGUCUAUCAAAUAGCUUGAACGUAAACAUACUAAAACAAUGAAAAGAAGAUAAAAAUUAGCAACUUUGUGCGUAUUUCAUAUUACAUAUGCUAAAACGAAUCAGUAAACGAGAAGAAAAAAAAUGAGCAGUCUAACCACAAAUAUUUGAUAAAAUGUAUACUAACCUCUGGUGUAGUUGUGAAAAACGUCUCUAAUUUGAAGAAUUUGAUGGAAUUUAGCUGAAAAUUGAAACAAUGAUAAGAUAUUUGGAUUUGGUUUUUGGUUGUUGUUGUUGUUGAGGUAUUUAGGUUAAUUUUCAUAAAUUGAAAGUGAGGGGAAGUUGUUGAGCAUUACAUAUAUAAUGGUACAUUUCUAAGCAUGUCUUCUAAAGCAUAUUUUCCAUGUUUUAGAUUGUAUAAUCUAUAUACUUAUAUUAAAAGAAAUGUCCUUUGAAUUUACCAUUUUGCCCCUAUUAAGGGUAAUUUGGUAAAUUACUAAUUGGUUGAGUUUUUUUUUUUUUUUAAGGUUGCCUAUAAAUUUUCAUUUUUGCCCCUAACCAAUUUUUUUAAUUAUUUUCUAAUUUUAAUAUUUUUAAUAACUUUUAAUUAUUUUCCAAUUUUUAUAUUUUUAACUAUUUUUCAAUUUUUUCUCCCAAAUUCAGUUGCUUCUACAUUGCCGUUGUGGAAGAUUAAGGUAUCGUUUGACCCGACUUUUUUCAAACUUCUUUACAUUUUUAAGGAGAAGUUAGGCCAAACACAAUAUCAAUUAAGUACUUGCUAAAAAAAGAACAUUUUUUGAACGCAUAAAAUUGAAUAGAAUGAGCUUUGACCAGAAGUUGUUGAAUGUUACUUUAAAAAACUAUUUCUCCACAAUUUAUUUCAUAAACACCUUUUCAACUCACGCUGGGAACCUUUUCUUUAUUUUUUAAUAUUAUAUAUCAAUAUCUUUUUCUUAUUCAAAAAAACUAAACAUAUAUGUUUCCACGACACCAACAAAUAUAAUAUCAUAUAGUAUAAAUUCCAACAUUUAUAAUAGUAAUUUUCUUAAGAAAUCAUCGGGCUUCUUCAAGAGAUUGUCAAGAUAAUUCCAAUUGGGACUAGAAAGAAACUGUGUACGAAUAUUGUGUUGAAAGAUAAAAGGUAUUAUUUUCUUAUUUGUCGGCAGAAGAUGAUAGGAUUUUGUAUACGUUUGUUAAUGACCUGAAAUAUGUCUUUCCUUAUGCAGUGAGAAUAUAGUUGAUGUAACACUAUGGGAAAAAUAUUUCGUAGCUUUAUCAUUUACCAUCUAUUUACCUUGAGUUAUUUGCUUCCAUUUUGUAGUAAAUGGCAACCCAAAUAUAUAUAAUAAUUGGUCAGGUUCGAGGCUACUCAUCAACCUACAUUAUUCGGUUGUUGAGAAGUUUAAAACUUAGUAAGUUUGCAUUAUGAUUUCACAAUACAGUGUUAGAGUAAAUUAUUAUUUCACAAUCUGAUUUAAUUGUUUUUUUUACCAUGUUUCUUGAAUUGUUGUCGUGACCUUAACACUUCUCAAGCUUAGAGUCAAAGCAUCAAUCAGAACUUAAGUCAGAGUUCGGCUUCUUCUCAAUGUACUUCGUACAAAGAUUUUUUCAAUCUGUCUCAAGUUAGGCCAAUUGUUGAAUUUAUAAACUUAGUCAAGGUCUUCUUUUUUUAUGCACAAACAUGCUUUGAAUUUUUUACGCACAAAUUAAAAAUACAUAUUGCAUUAUUCUUUAUUUCAUGUGCAUAUUUGUGUUAGGAUACAUAUUGCAUGACUAUUUGGAAAGCAGCUAAAUUCAAUCUUAACCAGUUUGGAUAAUAUUAUGAGAGUUUCACCAAAUGUUCAAAGACAUCAUUGUCAAAUGGUGCUAGCUAUAGAUGCACAUGCGGGAGUGAUGCUUAAUUUCCAUUUGUUUCAACAAUGUUAAUUGGUCAACGGGGUUCAUAUAAUGCACAUGAAUGCAUUUAUCUAGCCUUUUUAGGAAGAUAAAUUAGAAGUCAUGAUACAUUUUCUUUAGCUUAAAAUCAGUUAUGCUACCUUUAUUUUAUAAAUUAUAUGUAACUAUAUUCGCAUACGUCUUAUCCAUGUUAAUAUGCAUUAGACUAAUAUUGUUGUUAUUUCCCUGUUUAGCAUUUCCCAAACGAGGUUUCAAGAACAAUUCUAAAAGGAAAGCGCAAAACAAUCACUCUCAUUGGUUUCAAUUAUUUUCAUCCUAAAUAUUAUGUCAAUUCCUAAUCUCAUAAACUGAUUAUAUGAUCUCUAAAUCAGCUCAUACAUAUUUUAUGAUGAAUCACAAUGUUCUGUUGUUUUAACAUCUUUUCUUUCGAAUAUUUUUUUUUAUGCCGUGAUUAUCUAAGGUUAUUAUUUUACCUUAUGUUAUACCCUGUUUUUGGACCUAAAAAAUACUGGGCCCAAUUUCAUUUCAAACUUCGUCAAUUAUCAAAUUUCAGCUGCACAGUUCAAUUUGUCUCUGCCUCGCAGUAUUUUCAAUCACAAUUUUACCUAUGUUUUUCUUGCAUAAAACCUUUUAAAAUGUCUUUACUGGUCUUGUAAGUCACGCAAAAGUGUCUCUGAAUCAUUAUGUUGCUUUUUUUCCACAGUUUAUUUCAAAAUUUGCAAAAAGUCAUACAGAAGGGUAUUUUGGUCAUUUCCUGCAGUGGGACCCAUUUUCAUCCUUGUGACUGUCUCUGAGUCUUUUCAAAUUCAUUUUUUACUUUCCAUCAGUAAACCUUGCUAAUUUCAUUUCGAACUUGCAUCUGAGUCAGUGUCGAGUCAAUUUGAGUCUGUUUAGGUCAUUUUUUUAGCCCUAGGGGCAUUUUGGUCAUUUCACAUAAAAUUUUGGCAUGGGGAGGUUACUUUGAAGUACCUCAUUUAGGCCAUUGGUUCGUUUUAGUCCGUUUUGUCAAUUUUAUUUUAGUUUCACUUUACGUUUCGUCAGAUUGCCAAUUUUAUUCCAAUUUUAUUUUUAUUUUACAUUUUGGUCCCCAAGAGGUCCAAAAUUGCGUGUCAGUCCAGAAUUUUCUUUUUUUAUAUUUCAGUCCUUUUUGUCAAUUGCAGUUUAGUCCCUUAAUUUUUCAAUUUUGCAGAAAGGUCCCAAAUUAAUUCUAAGUCCAAGGCCGUGCCAUUUCCAUACAAAUCCAGGUGUCACAUUUUCAUUGGCUCAAGUGUACACAUGUCAACUAUAUAAACAGUGAGUCAGAAUCAGAAGCAAUAAUCACACGCCACUUCACCAAAAAACAGGAUCAAACUUUCUCUUUCUUGUCAGUUAGAUCAAACCAAAAAAUCACAGAGAAAUCACCAAGAACACAAGAACCCUAAGAUUUCCAGAACAAAAUUCAUACACAAAUUCAUUGAUUUUCACAUCAAUCCUCAGAGAUUCGUGUGAAUCUUCAUCACCGGAUUGAGGAAUUCCCCUACAAUUCAAAGUGCGAGCUCACAUUGAAGCAAGCUCAAGCACUGAUCAUAGGGAUUUUUCACACAGAUUCAAAAACGUUGAAGCAAGCUCAAGCACAUAAUCACAGAGAAGCAGAGAAAGAAUCAGAGAAGAUGAAGAUGAACCGGUAAACCGAUUUAUUUUCGGUCCAAAAGCAAGCAAAAUCAUCAAAACCGUCAAGAACAUUCAAGUUUUCCCAAAGAUUUCCUCCAUUAAAGGUUUCAACCAGAACCUUAGGUAAAACUCAGAAUCUUUUCUCAAAAGUAAUAUCACUGUUAAACCUGUAGAAAACAAUCACGCAAGCAAAGCGUAUCAAAAAAUUUCCAGAAUUCAAAGAAAGCCGUAACCGUAAACACGAAACCUAGAUCCAUAAGGAUCUAAGUUUUGAAAGCAAGAACGAGUACUAGAAGCGUAAUCAAACAACGAAACGAUGUAGAUCUUUAAACGAUCUAAACAUUUCUUUUCAAAAACCAAAAAAAUCAGUUUCAAAACCGUACGGAACUUUUUAGAUCUACAACGUUUCAAACCGUAUUUGAAAAAACAGCUGCUGGAUUCGUGUUUAGGGUUAAAGGACGAAUCAAAAUAUGCAAAAAUAUUUGAGUUCUGGAAAUUUUUCACCGGAAACUGCUAGGUCUCGCCGGAGAAGAUGAAGUUUCCGGCGGACCUUCAAGGUCUCCGCCGUAGCUUCAUCCUCACCGGCGGUGAGGGUUUAGAGAGAGAUGAGAGAAGAGAGAGGGGUUAGAGAGAGAAAGAGGAAUACGAAAUGAAAAAACCGGCGCGCUAGGGUUUAUAUAGAGUGCUAGACCGGACCGGUUCAAGACCGGUCCAAUCCCAUGCGUUGUGAGCCCUUAGAUCUAGGGUUUGGGAUCUUGGAUCAAUCCAACGAUCCCUGAGCAUUCCUGUGAGAUCCGGAUCCCUUGGCUUUGGGCCUGGGCCUCUUUUCUUUGCUUUUCUACGUUUUUGCUUUUUUUGUGCUAUUUGCACCGUGUUUCCUUGCUAUCUGCACCUAUUGCUUGUUUACUUCUUUUACAAAAAUUCCUAAAAAAAUCCUAGUGGUUUCUUGAUACAUUCUUGGCAUUUCUAUAGCGUUUUCUUGCAUAAAAAUGUUAAAAUGGCAUGAACUAAUUCCAUGUAUUUUUGUACUUUUGGUAUGCAUUUUGCUAUGUUUUGUUCUUGACAUUUUGAUAGUAUGACAUGGAUAAAUGAUGCCUGUUAUACCCUGUUUUUGGACCUAAAAAUACUGGGCCCAAUUUCAUUUCAAACUUUGUCGAUUAUCAAAUUUCAACUGCGCAGUUCAAAUUGUCUCUGCCUCGCAGUAUUUUCAAUCACAAUUUUACCUAUGUUUUUCUUGCAUAAAACCUUUCGAAAUGUCUUUACUUGUCCUGUAAGUCAUUCAAAAGUGUCUCUGAAUCAUUACAUUGCUUUUUCUACAGUUUAUUUCAAAAUUUGCAAAAAGUCAUACAGAAGGGUAUUUUGGUCAUUUCCUGCAGUGGGACCCAUUUUCAUCCUUGUGACUGUCUCUGAGUCUUUUCAGAUUACUUUUAAACAUUUCAUCAGUAAACUUUGUUAAAAUUCAUUUCAAACUUGCGUCUGAGUCAGUGUCAAGUCAAUUCGAGUCUGUUUAGGUCAUUUUUAGCCCUAGGGGCAUUUUGGUCAUUUCACAUAAAAUUUUGGCAUGGGGAGGUUACUUUGAAGUACCUCAUUUAGGCCAUUGGUUCGUUUUAGUCCGUUUUGUCAAUUUUAUUUGUGUUUCGCUUUACGUUUGGUCAAAUUACCAAUUUUAUUUUAAUUUUUAGUGUUUUUAUUAUUUUUGCAUUUUUGUCCUCAAAGAGUUCCAAAAUUGCAGUUCAGUCCACUUUUUUUCCAAUUUUCAUUUCAGUCCUUUUUGUCAAAUUGCAGUUUAGUCCUUGAAGUUUUAUUUUUUGCAGAAAGGUCCAAAGUUCAUUUUUCAGGUCCAAAGCCGUGCCAUUCCUUUUCCAAAUCCAGGUGUCACAUUUUCGUUGGCUCAAGUGUACACAUGUCAGCUAUAAAAGCAGUGAGUCAGAGUCAAAGCCAAGGACAACACGCCAACUCAACAAACACAUUUUCAGAUUCUCUCUCCAAUCAGUUAGAUCAAAACAGAAAAAUUUCUCAGAUUCAUCAAGAACACGAAGAACACAAAACCCUAACCGUUUCCAGAAAGUCACAAAUUCAUCAAGUUUCAGUGUUUUUCGCAUCAAUUCUCAGAGAUUCGUAUGAAUCUUCAUCACUGAAUUGAUUGAUUCUCUGCAAUUCCAAACGCGAGCUCGCAUCAAAGCAAGCUCAUGCGUUGAUCACAGAGAGCCUCUCGCAAAGAAAUCAAAGAAGCAAGUUCAAACGUAUAAUCAGAGAAAGAAUCGGAGAAGAUGAAGAAACCAAGCCAGUAAACCGAUUUAUUUUCGGUUCAGAGAAAACCAAAGAACGUUCAAGUUUUCCGAAGAUUUUCUCCUUCAAGAAUCUCAACCAAAUUCAGGUAAAACUCAGUUUUCUCUCUUUAAAAAGCAUAAUCACUGUUAAACCUGCAAACAAGAUCCAAAAAAUUUCCAGAAUCAUAAAAAAAAUCAUAACCGUAAGCAAAAACAUAGAUCCAUAGAAAUCCAGAAGUUGUAAGCAAGGACGAGUGCCAGAGAGAUAGCCAACACGGAAUCAAUGUAGAUCUUGAGGUGUUACAAGCUUCUUUUAAAAAUUCUUUGAAAACCUAAAAAAUUUUUCAAAACCGUGACACAAAAACGUAGAUCUACGUUGAUUCACGCCUUGCAUGAAAAAUCCAGUGGCAUAUUCGUGUUUAGGAUGGAAAAGGAUAUCUGAAAAUGUAAGUUUUUUUGAAAACGGUGGAGUUUGUUCAACUCCGGCGGCGGCGCCACCACCCUUGGGCGGCCGGCCACCACGCCGGAGGAGCAAAACUCACCGGGGAAGAUGAAGAUCUUCCGUGUUUUUCCAGAAUCCGGUGAGGGUUUAGAGAGAGAUGAGAGAUGAGAGAAGAGGGAAGAACUUAGAGAGAGAAAGGGAAGUAGAGAAAUGAAAAAACCGGUGCUCUCUUGUUUAUAUAAGCCAGCGAACCGGACCGGUUCAAUCCGGUCCAUUCCCCUUUGAUUCCUGGCCGCUUGAUCUAGGGUUUCAGAAUCCUGGAUCAAUCGUGUGGUUACUGUGCAUCCGGAUCUUUUAAGGAUUGGGCUUUGGUUUGGGCUUAGUUUUUUUACGUUUUUUUUGUUAUUUUCUUGCUAUUUGCACUGCCUGUCUUUGCUAUCCGCACCUGUUGCUUGCCUACCUUUUUAUAGAAAAUUCCUAAAAAAAUCCUAGUUGUUUCUCAAUGUAUUUUUGGCAUUUUUAUGGUGUUUUCUUGCAUGAAAAAAAUAUUAAAAUGGCAUGAACUAAUUUCCAUGAGUUUCUACACUUUUGGUAUGCAUUUUGCUAUGUUUUGUUCUUGGCAUUUUGAUAUUAUGACAUGGAUGAAUGAUGCCUAAUAUGGUGAUGAACAUGCCUCUGGAAAUGUGUUUAUUUUUGUUGUGUUUGGAUAUGAUUUUAUGGAUUACUUGUUUCACAAGAAAUAAUGGUUUAUUUUUUAGAAUAAAGUGGCAAAUUUCUCUAUGAACUUGGUAUGAUAUUUUGCAUGCAUACGCCUCCAUUAAUUGCAUGUCAUGGCUUGAAACAAAAUUUCUUUCUAAAUUGCCAUGAUGUGAUGAUUAUGGGUCACUAGCAUUUUUAAGUAUCAUAUCAAAUGUCUUCUAGGUUUAUUACCACUUUAUUGCUUUCUCUUGGCCAUCUUUAUGCAUUUCCUCUUAAUUACUUCCUACUAUUGUGUGCUUUAUGACUACUAACCAUUUCAUCUCAUGUGCCAUACAUUUCAUAGCAUUCCACCACUCUCUCCACUUUCUUUAGCUUAGCAUUUAUUUUUUGCAAAUCUUAAUUCAUUUGGUGAUGUAAUUUGUUGUCAUUGGUUUGUAGCUUGGCAAAGGGGCCAUAGAAUGUAUUUAGGCAAUUUUUGUAAUAUGGACUAUGGACACUAUGACGCACCGACACGCACACACUCACCUUAGAUGUAUGCAUAGGAUUGUAUGAUUAAAUAAGCGUUUAGGUUUUAAACACUUAGAGAAAAUCCAUCUUUUUUCAAAAAAUAAUUGAACUUCACUUCAAAAACUUUCAUGAUAAGCAUGAAGUCAACACUUCAUUUUUCCUUUCUUUUUUUCUUAAGAAAAAGUUCAAUUCAUCUUAAUCAUUUAGACUUUCUUUCUAAUCACUAAUCAAACCUCACUUUUUUGCUAAAUCUAAUGCUCAUGAAGCCUCCCAAUCUCCUUCUUCAAAACUUUUUUUUCAAAACUUAAAAUCAAACAAUUAAAAUCAAAAAAAAAAGUUUUUUUAGCAAGAACUACGAACGGUUUUGAUCCCUUAAAAGGGUACGUAGGCAAUGAGUCAAAACUCAUCCAAGCCGAAAUAAAAUCAAAAUUCUACUUCUUCUCACCCCCAUUCUUAACUAAAUAAACCUCCCAUUUUCAAAAGUAAGUAAAAAUAAAGCGUAGAAAUCGACUUAGGAAAACGGCUCCUAUAGAGGACUAUAGUUACUCCGGGUGCCUAACACCUUCCCGUAGUAAAACCGACCCCCGAACUUAGAAUCUAAGGGUUUUUUCUCAAUUUUUCCCUUCCCAAGAAAAAAGAGAGAUAUCAACGGUCGAAAGGUACAAGUCCAAUUAAUGACUUGGCACCCAAAAACCAUGAUAACAGAAAUGGCGACUUCACUGGGGAUUCUUUUUAGCGGGUCGCGCCUAGUUUUCUUUAGUUUAUAUUUACGCUUGUUUUAUUGCUUACAUAUGUGAAUAUUUGUUUACUUUCAUUCAACGUGUGGGGUGAGAAUAUCAAAAGUCCUAACCCGGGCUGAGUGAACUUAUGUUUAGGUAGAGAUAUAAUCGACAAUUCGAUCCGGGGGUUGCCUCGUGUAUUGGAUUAUGCGAUCAAUCUCACAUAGCUGAGGCAUUUUGAAGGUGAUAUUGUCGGCGUGUGUUGUCAUGCUUAGGCACUUCACUUUCAAUUGUUCGACGAAGCUAUGAACCGUAGUUACCAAACCCAUCCUAGCUUUUUUUAGGACGUAGUGCGGUGGCUAAAUUGAGUGUUGUCUCAAACUUUAGUCGUCAUGCGAUACUACACUCAAACUAGACCUUCUCACAAAUAAUCAGGGAACGGGUGUCGUCCUGUACUACCAUGAUAUAUGUGAGAGAGGUUGCAGUUUGGGAACUGUGUUAGAACCUUGGUUACUACUGUCCAAAGCCUUAGUUCACCGGACGCCGUGUCCAUCCGUGGCCCUGUUACUUUGAAUCUCAACCCACAUUGUAACUAAACAACACAAUCAUGCAUACAUGCAUUCAUGCAUAAAUAUUUUUCAUGCAUUCAUCGAAGGGUUUAAACAAAUGGAAAUUUUUGUAAAUAAUCACAGGUAUGAAGAAGACUAAGUGCUACAAGUUCAAGGAAGUGGAUUUGGUUAGUUUGAGAGAGUUGGCACUCAAGGUCAAGAGUCAAACAGGGUUCCGACUCCGAUAUGGGGGAUUGCUUACUUUGCUCCGAACCGAUGUGGAAGAGAAGCUAGUGCACACUCUAGUGCAGUUUUAUGAUCCAAGCUUCCGUUGUUUCACUUUUCCGGACUUCCAGUUAGUUCCUACUCUCGAGGCUUACUCCGAUCUAGUGGGUUUACCUAUAGCCGAGAAGACACCUUUCACCGGUCCCGGGGCUCCUCUUACUCCUCUGGUUAUUGCUAAGGAUCUCUACCUCAAGACUUCCGACGUCUCCAACCAUCUUAUUACCAAAUCUCACAUCCGGGGGUUCACUUCGAAGUAUCUUCUUGAUCAGGCUAAUCUCGGUACUACUCGUCAGGAUACACUCGAGGCUAUUCUUGCUUUGCUUAUCUACGGGCUCAUUCUCUUCCCGAACCUCGACAACUUCGUGGACAUGAAUGCUAUCGAGAUCUUUCAUUCCAAGAACCCGGUUCCUACUUUGCUAGCGGAUACCUACCACGCCAUCCAUGACAGGACUCUCAAGGGCCGUGGGUAUAUUCUUUGCUGCACAUCUCUUUUGUAUAGGUGGUUUAUUUCGCACCUUCCGAGUUCCUUCCAUGACAACUCGGAGAACUGGUCCUACUCGCAGCGGAUUAUGGCCCUUACUCCUAAUGAGGUCGUCUGGCUCACUCCCGCCGCUCAAGUGAAGGAAAUCAUUAUGGGUUGCGGAGACUUUCUCAAUGUACCUCUUCUUGGUACCCGUGGAGGAAUCAACUACAACCCCGAGCUUGCUAUGAGACAGUUCGGUUUCCCUAUGAAGUCGAAGCCCAUCAAUCUUGCCACAUCUCCAGAGUUCUUCUUCUACAUGAAUGCUCCCACCGGACAAAGGAAAGCUUUCAUAGAUGCUUGGUCCAAGGUUCGAAGGAAGAGUGUGAAGCAUCUAGGUGUGAGAUCCGGUGUCGCUCAUGAGGCCUAUGCUCAGUGGGUGAUAGAUCGAGCUGAGGAGAUUGGUAUGCCUUAUCCAGCUAUGAGAUAUGUGUCUUCAUCUACCCCAUCUAUGCCUCUACCUUUGCUCCCCGCGACUCAGGAUAUGUAUCAGGAGCAUCUAGCUAUGGAGAGUCGUGAGAAGCAAGUGUGGAAAGCUCGGUACAAUCAAGCUGAGAAUCUAAUCAUGACUUUGGAUGGUAGAGAUGAGCAGAAGACUCAUGAGAAUCUGAUGUUGAAGAAAGAACUAGCUAAAGCCCGGAGGGAAUUGGAAGAGAAAGACGAGCUGCUUAUGAGGGAUUCCAAGAGAGCUCGAGGACGACGAGAUUUCUUUGACAGAUACUGUGAUUCAGAUUCCGAGUCCGAUGAUCCUCCGACUACUUCCUAUGCUUGAGGACUCCAUGUGUUUAUCUUGUUGAAAUUUCAAAGUAUUCCUGUUAAAAAAAUACUAUGUAGUUUUGAUUAUUUGCAAAGAUUUCUAAUUUGUUUAAAAUUCCUUCGAUGAAAAAAAUAAGUCUUUUGCAUUCGCAUUUGCAUAUCAUGCAUCAUAUGCAUCAUGCAUUGGUCACAAAGGCUUCCAAGUGCUCACUAUCUCCUGGUUCCUCUGCCGCAGUGUGAAAAGUGGCUCGUGCUCAGAGAGUUUACGAACCAGAUAGAAUUGAUCGAACCAGAGAAUACAGAAGAAAGAAAAGGGCUAUGGAAGAAGAGAACGCUCAGCUUCGCACCGAGUUAGCCUCUCUAAAGGAGGAAUUGGCUAAAGCUAAUGACGUCAUGACUGCUCUACUAGCUGCUCAAGAGCAAUCAGCUACAGCUAUCCCUACAACCACAGCUGCACCAGUAACUACAAGCGUGCUCCCUACCACUUCUGCAGACAACCGCUUUACUAUGCCAGUGGGGUUUCCGUAUGGGCUUCCACCGUUCUUCACUCCCGUUGCUACAGCAAGCACCUCGGGCACUGCUAACAAUGUUCUGAUCCCUGCAACAAAUGCCGCCUCCAUCAUUGCUACUUUGCCACAAACAACAGCAGCUGUCACUGAGCCUCUGGUACACACUCUGCCUCAAGGUAUUAACAUCAACACACAGCACAGAAGCAUCCCCGUAACCAAGACUAUGGAAGAGAUGAUGGAGGAACUUGCUAAAGAACUCCGUCACGAGAUCCAGGCCAAUCGAGGGAAUGCAGACUCUGUCAAAACUCAAGACCUUUGCUUAGUGUCAAAAGUGGAUGUUCCUAAAAAGUUCAAGAUUCCGGACUUCGACCGGUACAACGGGCUAACUUGUCCUCAAAAUCACAUCAUCAAAUACGUCCGGAAGAUGGGCAAUUACAAAGACAAUGAUUCCCUUAUGAUCCACUGUUUUCAGGAUAGUCUGAUGGAGGAUGCCGCAGAGUGGUAUACUAGUUUGAGUAAGAAUGACAUCCAUACCUUUGAUGAGUUAGCCACCGCUUUCAAGAGCCAUUAUGGGUUUAACACUCGACUGAGGCCAAAUAGGGAGUUUCUCAGGUCCCUAUCUCAGAAGAAGGAGGAAAGUUUCCGUGAAUAUGCGCAAAGGUGGAGAGGGGCGGCUGCCCGUAUCACUCCUGCUUUAGAUGAGGAAGAAAUGACCCAGACGUUCUUAAAGACGUUGAAGAAAGAUUAUGUUGAGAGGAUGAUCAUCGCUGCCCCGAACAACUUUUCGGAGAUGGUCACCAUGGGAACCCGUCUUGAGGAAGCCGUCAGGGAUGGAAUCAUUGUGUUUGAGAAAGCUGAAUCUUCUACGAGUGCAUCGAAAAGGUACGGUAAUGGACACCACAAGAAGAAAGAAACGGAAGUGGGGAUGGUAUCAGCUGGAGCCGGUCAAUCAAUGGCUACUGUUGCUCCCAUCAAUGCAGCUCAAAUGCCUCCGUCAUACCCAUAUAUGCCGUAUUCUCAGCAUCCGUUCUUCCCACCGUUUUAUCAUCAGUACCCUUUGCCGCCGGGCCAGCCUCAAGUGCCCGUCAAUGCGAUUGCCCAACAGAUGAAACAACAGAUGCCGGUUCAACAACAACAACAAAAUCAGCAAGCUAGGCCUACUUUCCCUCCGAUACCGAUGUUAUAUGCUGAGUUGCUUCCAACUUUACUCCAGAGAGGGCAUUGUACAACUAGACAGGGUAAGCCCCCACCUGAUCCGUUGCCUCCAAGGUUCAGGUCUGAUCUCAAAUGCGACUUUCAUCAAGGUGCCCUAGGUCAUGAUGUCGAGGGGUGUUAUGCUUUGAAGUAUAUCGUGAAGAAGCUCAUCGAUCAAGGGAAGCUGACUUUUGAGAAUAAUGUCCCACACGUCCUCGACAAUCCUCUUCCAAAUCAUGCCGCUGUGAAUAUGAUCGAAGUGUGUGAGGAAGCUCCUAGACUUGAUGUCCGCAAUGUUGCCACUCCUCUGGUGCCUCUACAUAUCAAGCUGUGCAAAGCUUCUCUGUUCAAUCAUGAUCAUGCCAAGUGUCUGGGAUGCCUCCGUGAUCCUUUGGGUUGUUAUACUGUUCAAGACGACAUCCAAAGCUUGAUGGAUGAUAAUCUUCUGACUGUCAGUGAUGUUUGCGUGGUCGUGCCAGUUUUUCACGAUCCGCCUGUCAAGAGUGUACCUUUGAAGAAGAAUGCUGAGCCUUUGGUGAUAAGGUUGCCAGGACCAAUUCCUUAUGUUUCGGACAAGGCAGUGCCAUACAAGUACAAUGCUACUAUGAUAGAAAAUGGAGUAGAGGUGCCUCUAGCCUCCUUUGCCACAGUAAGCAAUAUUGCCGAAGGGACUUCUGCAGCGCUAAGAAGCGGGAAGGUCCGUCCGCCGUUAUUUCAGAAGAAAGUAGCUACGCCGACCAUUCCACCAGUUGAAGAAGCAACUCCAACCGUUGUUUCACCCAUUGCUACAGAUGUGAACCAGCCUGGCAAAUCUAUAGAGGAUUCGAAUUUAGAUGAGAUUCUGAGGAUAAUAAAGAGGAGCGACUACAAGAUCGUUGAUCAAUUGCUGCAGACUCCUUCAAAGAUAUCUGUAUUGUCAUUACUCUUGAGCUCCGAGGCUCACAGGAAUACCUUGUUGAAAGUGCUGGAGCAGGCUUAUGUUGACCACGAAGUUACGGUAGAUCGUUUCGGUGGCAUAGUGGGAAAUAUUACUGCUUGUAACAAUCUCUGGUUUAGUGAAGAAGAAUUGCCGGAAGCGGGAAAGAGUCACAAUCUGGCUUUACACAUCUCGGUGAAUUGUAAAUCAGACAUGAUAUCAAAUGUGUUGGUGGAUACCGGUUCCUCCCUCAAUGUAAUGCCCAAGACAACUCUAGAUCAGUUGAGCUACCGUAGGACCCCGUUGAGAAGAAGUACUUUCUUGGUCAAAGCUUUUGAUGGAUCUCGAAAGAAUGUGCUGGGAGAGAUAGAUUUGCCGAUAACCAUUGGCCCUGAGAAUUUCUUGGUUACUUUCCAGGUGAUGGACAUUAAUGCAUCCUACAGUUGCCUGCUGGGAAGACCGUGGAUACACGAUGCAGGUGCGGUUACUUCCACCUUACAUCAGAAGUUGAAAUUUGUGAAGAAUGGAAAACUCGUUACAAUCCAUGGUGAAGAAGCAUACUUAGUCAGCCAAUUGUCUUCUUUUUCUUGUAUUGAAGCAGGGUCUGCUGAAGGGACUGCUUUCCAAGGUUUGACCAUUGAAGGUGCAGAGUCUAAGGAAGCUGGGGCUGCUAUGGCUUCAUUGAAGGAUGCUCAGAGAGCCAUUCAAGAAGGUCAGACUGCCGGCUGGGGCAAGGUGAUACAGCUCUGUGAGAACAAGCGUAAAGAAGGUCUCGGGUUCUCCCCGUCAUCAAGAGCUUCCUCGGGAGUCUUCCACAGUGCUGGGUUUGUUAAUGCUAUCUCUGAAGAAGCCACUGGAUCUGGUCUCAGGCCUGCAUUUGUUACACCAGGAGGCAUUGCGACAAAUUGGGACGCCAUUGACAUUCCUUCAAUCAUGCAUGUUUCUGAGUAAUGUGUCUUGUUGCUUUAAUGCUUUGUUUUCAAAAUAACAAUCCUCUCGCUCUGCCCAAAGCGAGAGUGAUAUUUUCUGUAAGGGCAUGUUUGUUUCGGCAUUGCCGUUGAUUAAUAAAAUUUUGUCGUUUCUUCCACGACUACUUUUUUUUAGUGCUUUUUCCCUUGGAAACAAUGGUAAUGCCAGAAAAAACCAAAACGUCUGUAUUUUCUUAUUAAUUUCAAAAAUCUGCAUGAAAAAAAAAAAAAAAAAAAAAACUCUUUCUUAAAUCAUCCAACCAUUAUAUGCAGGUUGAACCAUAAUAAACCCGUUGAACACAGUAAUCCUACGGUUCCUCCAAGUUUUGAUUUCCCUGUGUAUGAAGCCGAAGAUGAGGAAGGUGAUGACAUACCGUAUGAGAUCACUCGGUUACUUGAGCAAGAAAAGAAAGCCAUUCAGUCUCACCAGGAAGAAAUUGAGCUUAUCAACAUAGGUACCGAGGAAAACAAGCAAGAAAUCAAGAUUGGUGCUACUCUAGAGGAAGGGGUUAAACAGAAGAUCAUCCAGCUCCUCCGGGAAUAUCCGGAUAUUUUUGCAUGGUCCUAUGAAGAUAUGCCAGGUCUAGACCCUAUGAUCGUGGAGCAUCGGAUCCCUACCAAGCCUGAAUGUCCUCCCGUCAGGCAGAAAUUGAGAAGGACUCAUCCUGAUAUGGCUCUCAAAAUCAAGAAUGAAGUUCAAAAGCAGAUUGAUGCGGGUUUCCUCAUGACAGUUGAGUAUCCCGAAUGGGUUGCCAAUAUUGUGCCUGUGCCAAAGAAGGAUGGUAAAGUUCGGAUGUGUAUUGACUUCAGAGACCUGAACAAAGCCAGCCCAAAAGACAACUUUCCAUUACCUCAUAUUGAUGUGCUUGUUGAUAAUACUGCUCAAUCUAAGGUGUUCUCCUUCAUGGACGGUUUUUCCGGUUAUAAUCAGAUCAAGAUGUCUCCUGAAGAUAGAGAAAAGACAUCUUUUAUCACUCCAUGGGGUACUUUCUGCUACAAGGUGAUGCCGUUCGGCCUAAUCAAUGCUGGUGCUACCUAUCAAAGGGGAAUGACUACUCUGUUUCAUGACAUGAUUCACAAAGAAGUUGAGGUAUAUGUGGAUGACAUGAUUGUGAAGUCAGCAGAUGAGGAGCAGCAUGUUGAAUAUUUAACAAAGAUGUUUGAAAGGUUGAGAAAAUACAAGCUGCGAUUGAAUCCCAACAAAUGUACAUUCGGUGUCAGGUCCGGAAAGUUAUUAGGCUUCAUUGUCAGCCAAAAGGGCAUUGAAGUCGAUCCUGAUAAAGUCCGGGCCAUCCGAGAAAUGCCAGCUCCACAGACAGAGAAGCAAGUCAGAGGUUUCUUGGGACGUUUGAAUUACAUCUCCCGAUUCAUAUCUCAUAUGACUGCAACCUGCGGGCCGAUCUUCAAGCUACUUAGAAAGAACCAGCCUGUUGUAUGGAAUGAUGAAUGCCAAGAAGCUUUUGAUAGCAUCAAGAAUUACCUGCUGGAACCACCUAUCCUUGUCCCACCCGUGGAAGGAAGGCCUUUGAUUAUGUAUUUGGCAGUGUUUGAUGAAUCCAUGGGAUGCGUGCUUGGUCAACAAGAUGAAACUGGAAAGAAAGAGCAUGCUAUCUACUAUCUAAGCAAGAAGUUCACCGAUUGUGAAACUCGGUAUACAAUGCUUGAGAAGACUUGUUGUGCUUUAGCUUGGGCUGCCAAACGCCUGCGUCAUUAUUUGGUGAAUCAUACAACUUGGUUGAUAUCCAGAAUGGAUCCGAUAAAGUAUAUCUUUGAGAAAGCUGCUGUUACUGGAAAGAUUGCACGCUGGCAGAUGCUUUUGUCAGAAUAUGAUAUUGUGUUCAAAACUCAAAAGGCAAUCAAAGGUAGCAUUCUUGCCGAUCACCUUGCUUACCAACCUCUUGAUGAUUACCAACCAAUUGAAUUCGAUUUCCCCGAUGAAGAGAUCAUGUAUUUGAAAUCCAAAGACUGCGAAGAACCGUUGAUUAAUGAAGGUCCAGAUCCCAAUAGCAAGUGGGGUUUAGUCUUUGAUGGUGCUGUCAAUGCUUAUGGUAAGGGAAUUGGGGCAGUCAUUGUAUCCCCGCAGGGGCAUCACAUUCCUUUUACCGCCAGAAUCUUGUUCGAAUGUACCAACAAUAUGGCUGAGUAUGAAGCAUGUAUCUUUGGGAUCGAGGAAGCAAUUGACAUGAGAAUCAAACACCUCGACAUCUAUGGAGAUUCUGCGCUCGUCAUCAAUCAGAUAAAGGGUGAAUGGGAGACCCACCAUGCUAAUUUGAUUCCUUAUCGUGAUUAUGCGAGACGUUUGCUGACAUAUUUUACAAAGGUUGAGCUGCACCAUAUUCCUCGUGAUGAGAACCAAAUGGCUGAUGCUCUUGCUACUCUAUCCUCCAUGUUUCGAGUAAACCAUUGGAAUGAUGUGCCAAUAAUCAAAAUGCAACGCCUUGAAAGACCUUCACAUGUGUUUGCUAUUGGGGAUGUGAUCGAUCAGGCUGGUGAAAAUGUGGUUGACUAUAAACCCUGGUACUAUGACAUCAAGCAGUUCUUGCUGAGCCGUGAGUAUCCGCCGGGUGCUUCCAAACAAGAUAAGAAGACCCUGAGAAGAUUGGCCGGUAGAUUCCUGUUAGAUGGAAAUAUUCUGUACAAGAGGAACUAUGACAUGGUAUUGUUAAGGUGUGUUGAUGAACAUGAAGCAGAGCAGUUAAUGCAUGAUGUACAUGACGGUACCUUCGGGACCCAUGCUACAGGGCAUACUAUGUCAAGAAAGUUGUUACGAGCAGGUUAUUACUGGAUGGCCAUGGAGCAUGAUUGCUACCAAUACGCCAGAAAGUGCCACAAAUGUCAAAUCUAUGCUGAUAAGAUCCAUGUGCCUCCGCAUGCUCUCAAUGUUAUGUCAUCCCCAUGGCCGUUCUCAAUGUGGGGCAUUGACAUGAUUGGAAGAAUUGAACCGAAGGCUUCAAAUGGUCAUCGUUUCAUCUUAGUGGCAAUUGACUACUUCACCAAGUGGGUUGAAGCAGCAUCUUAUACCAAUGUGACCAAGCAAGUGGUAGCUAAGUUCAUCAAGAACAACAUCAUCUGUCGAUAUGGUGUUCCCAGCAAGAUUAUUACUGACAAUGGUACCAACCUGAACAACAAUGUGGUGCAAGCUCUUUGUGAAGAAUUCAAAAUUGAGCACCAUAACUCUUCUCCUUAUAGACCUCAGAUGAAUGGUGCAGUUGAGGCCGCCAACAAGAAUAUCAAGAGAAUUGUCCAGAAGAUGGUAACUACUUACAAGGACUGGCAUGAGAUGUUACCCUAUGCUCUGCAUGGCUACCGUACUACAGUGCGCAGUUCAACCGGGGCAACCCCUUUCUCUCUUGUAUAUGGUAUGGAAGCAGUUCUUCCUUUGGAAGUGGAGAUCCCGUCUCUCCGUGUGAUCAUGGAAGCAAAGUUAUCUGAGGCUGAAUGGUGCCAAAGCCGGUAUGAUCAGUUGAAUUUGAUUGAGGAAAAACGUAUGGAUGCCAUGGCUCGUGGACAUUCAUAUCAAGCCAGAAUGAAGACUGCUUUUGACAAGAAAGUCAAUCCUCGAGAAUUCAAGGUAGGGGAACUUGUUUUGAAAAGGAGGAUAAGCCAGCAACCCGACCCAAGGGGCAAGUGGACGCCUAACUAUGAAGGUCCUUAUGUUGUCAAGAAGGCCUUCUCCGGUGGUGCUUUAAUCCUUACACACAUGGAUGGUGUAGAACUUCCAAAUCCAGUGAAUGCUGAUAUAGUCAAGAAAUACUUUGCCUAGAAAUAUGAAAAGAACAGCGUGGUAGGUCGAAAACCCGAAAGGGCGGCCUAGGCAAAAAUGCGCUUCCCGGUGGAUCGAAAACCCGAAAGGGCGGUCCAGGCAAAAAUAAGGGACAAAAAAGAAACAAAUAUGAAAAGCUCGCUGAGAUUGUACACAACUCAGGCAAGAAUGAGCGUCUCGAUGAGCCGAAAACCCGGAAGGGCGGUUCAUGCAAAAAUGAGAUUGAAACAAAAGGCAAGUAACUAUAUCUAGUCAACCACCGUUCCCCUUGAGGCAUCUGCAGCUGUUAAUGACCGUCUUCAUCAAAAAGCUUAUGUACUCGUGGAUUCAAAGUUUCUAAGAAAUGUAGUGAUUGCUGUGUUCAAUGUACCACCAACCAAUAAAAUUACCAUUUUCCAAGCUUUGUGAAUCCGUGGAGUCACGCCUUUGGCUGACCACCACUCUUACACAUCAAUUUGAGCUUGUGCUUUUGUUUAAAACUCUACCUUUCUUCUACUUUCAAAGCUAUAUACAAAACAUUUUCCUUCUAUUUUGAUAAUGACAAUGCUUGAAACAAACAUUUUUGAAAAUUGAAAACUUUUUGUCUAUUUUGAAAAGCAAACCUGAGCAACGGGGUACAUUCAAAUGAAACAUGCAUGAGCGAGAAUAUGUUAAUGUCUAUUUCAAUAUAUGUUACAAGCAGGUUCUCCUCCAGGAUAGUCUGUGGUCAAUGGCAAGAAUGAAAAAACAGAAUGAAAAUGCAUGAAAAUGAAAAGGCUCGCUAAGUUGAAAACCCGAAAGGGCGACUUAGGCAAAAAUGAGCACCCCGCUGGAUUGACAACCCGAAAGGGCAAUUCAGGCAAAAAUGGGGCAUUGAAAAGAAUUUAUUUCCCCGGUGGACCGAAAACCCGAAAGGGCGAUCCAGGCAAAAAUGGGAUGCGAAAAAUGAUGAAUGAAAUUGAGAAUAUAACAUGCAAGAAGCAUUGACCACAGAUGCAAUGUCUACAACAUGCCCAGCACAACGGCAUUUUCCCCAGUCAAGUCUUCCAAGAUUCUAUCUCCAGCAAGUUGCAUACCUACCUAUCCUCAGCCUUGGUUCUGAUACGUCUCCCAACGACGUCAUCUCCAAAGAGGAUUUCCAAGAAUGUGUAAUAUAGCACGAGCCACUACGUGCCCAAUACUCUAAUGUCUUGUCUUCUCCGUGAAGUCGUGCCUACAAAAUGCCAACAGUCAUGCAUUACAAGCAUUCAUACAUGCAUAAUCAUGCAUAUUACGUGCCCAUGCAUUUAAUGAAAUUGUUAUAUCAUCCAUGCAUAUUGCAUUUCCAAUGUCAACAUCAGUCUCAAUUCAAUACUCAUGUCAGGUUCUCCGUCAAAACCUUGUGAGCCAAUAAUAUCGGUCAAUUUCUGCCUUUCAAUUCAAAUCGACGUCAAGUCAACCUCAAUCUAUAUUUUGUCAACAAACCAAUCCCCAGUGAAUGUGUUUCUGUUUGGUCAAGUUACUAGUUCGCAUCCAAGAACGACUUGUACCCAUUUACUUUUCAAUGUUAUCGGUCGAGUGCCCAGCUCAAUCCAAGAGCAGCUUGUACCUGUCUAUAUGUUUCCGUUUGGUCAAGUGACUAGCUCAAUCCAAGAGCAGCUUGUACCUGUCUAUCUGUUUCUGUCCGGUGGAGUAACCAGUUCGAAUCCAUAAGAACAACUCAUGUUUGUCCAGUAACCUCUAUCCCCAAGUGAGUCACCAGUUCGAAUCCAUAAGAACAACUCAUGUUUGUCCAGUAACCUCUAUCCCCAAGUGAGUCACCAGUUCGAAUCCAUAAGAACAACUCAUGUUUGUCCAGUAACCUCUAUCCCCUGUGAAGUGACCAGUUCGAAUCCAUAAGAACAACUCGCAGUUGUCUGUUUGUUUCAUCCCCGGUCAAGUGGCUAGUUUGAAUCCAAGAACAGCUUGUACCUGUCCAACUUGUUUCUAGUUUCCCGUUACUCUGCUAUUCACUAUCUUUGUCAAUGUCUACCAAUCCCGCAAUGGAUACGACAUAUUUUGUUAAUUCCAAUCCCCAUGAGGUCUUGCAUUCAUAAUCCAAAUGAUGCAUGGCAUGCAUAUUAUUUGAAAAUGGGUAGGCGUAUUUUUACGUCCAAACACAGUGUAAAUGCUAAUAUUUAAGUAUCUUCGUCCUGUCAAGCCAAAGACUCCGUCUCUUGAUUCUCCGGACAAAGAAACUUAAAUAGGGGCAGCUGUUAUACCCUGUUUUUGGACCUAAAAAUACUGGGCCCAAUUUCAUUUCAAACUUUGUCGAUUAUCAAAUUUCAACUGCGCAGUUCAAAUUGUCUCUGCCUCGCAGUAUUUUCAAUCACAAUUUUACCUAUGUUUUUCUUGCAUAAAACCUUUCGAAAUGUCUUUACUUGUCCUGUAAGUCAUUCAAAAGUGUCUCUGAAUCAUUACAUUGCUUUUUCUACAGUUUAUUUCAAAAUUUGCAAAAAGUCAUACAGAAGGGUAUUUUGGUCAUUUCCUGCAGUGGGACCCAUUUUCAUCCUUGUGACUGUCUCUGAGUCUUUUCAGAUUACUUUUAAACAUUUCAUCAGUAAACUUUGUUAAAAUUCAUUUCAAACUUGCGUCUGAGUCAGUGUCAAGUCAAUUCGAGUCUGUUUAGGUCAUUUUUAGCCCUAGGGGCAUUUUGGUCAUUUCACAUAAAAUUUUGGCAUGGGGAGGUUACUUUGAAGUACCUCAUUUAGGCCAUUGGUUCGUUUUAGUCCGUUUUGUCAAUUUUAUUUGUGUUUCGCUUUACGUUUGGUCAAAUUACCAAUUUUAUUUUAAUUUUUAGUGUUUUUAUUAUUUUUGCAUUUUUGUCCUCAAAGAGUUCCAAAAUUGCAGUUCAGUCCACUUUUUUUCCAAUUUUCAUUUCAGUCCUUUUUGUCAAAUUGCAGUUUAGUCCUUGAAGUUUUAUUUUUUGCAGAAAGGUCCAAAGUUCAUUUUUCAGGUCCAAAGCCGUGCCAUUCCUUUUCCAAAUCCAGGUGUCACAUUUUCGUUGGCUCAAGUGUACACAUGUCAGCUAUAAAAGCAGUGAGUCAGAGUCAAAGCCAAGGACAACACGCCAACUCAACAAACACAUUUUCAGAUUCUCUCUCCAAUCAGUUAGAUCAAAACAGAAAAAUUUCUCAGAUUCAUCAAGAACACGAAGAACACAAAACCCUAACCGUUUCCAGAAAGUCACAAAUUCAUCAAGUUUCAGUGUUUUUCGCAUCAAUUCUCAGAGAUUCGUAUGAAUCUUCAUCACUGAAUUGAUUGAUUCUCUGCAAUUCCAAACGCGAGCUCGCAUCAAAGCAAGCUCAUGCGUUGAUCACAGAGAGCCUCUCGCAAAGAAAUCAAAGAAGCAAGUUCAAACGUAUAAUCAGAGAAAGAAUCGGAGAAGAUGAAGAAACCAAGCCAGUAAACCGAUUUAUUUUCGGUUCAGAGAAAACCAAAGAACGUUCAAGUUUUCCGAAGAUUUUCUCCUUCAAGAAUCUCAACCAAAUUCAGGUAAAACUCAGUUUUCUCUCUUUAAAAAGCAUAAUCACUGUUAAACCUGCAAACAAGAUCCAAAAAAUUUCCAGAAUCAUAAAAAAAAUCAUAACCGUAAGCAAAAACAUAGAUCCAUAGAAAUCCAGAAGUUGUAAGCAAGGACGAGUGCCAGAGAGAUAGCCAACACGGAAUCAAUGUAGAUCUUGAGGUGUUACAAGCUUCUUUUAAAAAUUCUUUGAAAACCUAAAAAAUUUUUCAAAACCGUGACACAAAAACGUAGAUCUACGUUGAUUCACGCCUUGCAUGAAAAAUCCAGUGGCAUAUUCGUGUUUAGGAUGGAAAAGGAUAUCUGAAAAUGUAAGUUUUUUUGAAAACGGUGGAGUUUGUUCAACUCCGGCGGCGGCGCCACCACCCUUGGGCGGCCGGCCACCACGCCGGAGGAGCAAAACUCACCGGGGAAGAUGAAGAUCUUCCGUGUUUUUCCAGAAUCCGGUGAGGGUUUAGAGAGAGAUGAGAGAUGAGAGAAGAGGGAAGAACUUAGAGAGAGAAAGGGAAGUAGAGAAAUGAAAAAACCGGUGCUCUCUUGUUUAUAUAAGCCAGCGAACCGGACCGGUUCAAUCCGGUCCAUUCCCCUUUGAUUCCUGGCCGCUUGAUCUAGGGUUUCAGAAUCCUGGAUCAAUCGUGUGGUUACUGUGCAUCCGGAUCUUUUAAGGAUUGGGCUUUGGUUUGGGCUUAGUUUUUUUACGUUUUUUUUGUUAUUUUCUUGCUAUUUGCACUGCCUGUCUUUGCUAUCCGCACCUGUUGCUUGCCUACCUUUUUAUAGAAAAUUCCUAAAAAAAUCCUAGUUGUUUCUCAAUGUAUUUUUGGCAUUUUUAUGGUGUUUUCUUGCAUGAAAAAAAUAUUAAAAUGGCAUGAACUAAUUUCCAUGAGUUUCUACACUUUUGGUAUGCAUUUUGCUAUGUUUUGUUCUUGGCAUUUUGAUAUUAUGACAUGGAUGAAUGAUGCCUAAUAUGGUGAUGAACAUGCCUCUGGAAAUGUGUUUAUUUUUGUUGUGUUUGGAUAUGAUUUUAUGGAUUACUUGUUUCACAAGAAAUAAUGGUUUAUUUUUUAGAAUAAAGUGGCAAAUUUCUCUAUGAACUUGGUAUGAUAUUUUGCAUGCAUACGCCUCCAUUAAUUGCAUGUCAUGGCUUGAAACAAAAUUUCUUUCUAAAUUGCCAUGAUGUGAUGAUUAUGGGUCACUAGCAUUUUUAAGUAUCAUAUCAAAUGUCUUCUAGGUUUAUUACCACUUUAUUGCUUUCUCUUGGCCAUCUUUAUGCAUUUCCUCUUAAUUACUUCCUACUAUUGUGUGCUUUAUGACUACUAACCAUUUCAUCUCAUGUGCCAUACAUUUCAUAGCAUUCCACCACUCUCUCCACUUUCUUUAGCUUAGCAUUUAUUUUUUGCAAAUCUUAAUUCAUUUGGUGAUGUAAUUUGUUGUCAUUGGUUUGUAGCUUGGCAAAGGGGCCAUAGAAUGUAUUUAGGCAAUUUUUGUAAUAUGGACUAUGGACACUAUGACGCACCGACACGCACACACUCACCUUAGAUGUAUGCAUAGGAUUGUAUGAUUAAAUAAGCGUUUAGGUUUUAAACACUUAGAGAAAAUCCAUCUUUUUUCAAAAAAUAAUUGAACUUCACUUCAAAAACUUUCAUGAUAAGCAUGAAGUCAACACUUCAUUUUUCCUUUCUUUUUUUCUUAAGAAAAAGUUCAAUUCAUCUUAAUCAUUUAGACUUUCUUUCUAAUCACUAAUCAAACCUCACUUUUUUGCUAAAUCUAAUGCUCAUGAAGCCUCCCAAUCUCCUUCUUCAAAACUUUUUUUUCAAAACUUAAAAUCAAACAAUUAAAAUCAAAAAAAAAAGUUUUUUUAGCAAGAACUACGAACGGUUUUGAUCCCUUAAAAGGGUACGUAGGCAAUGAGUCAAAACUCAUCCAAGCCGAAAUAAAAUCAAAAUUCUACUUCUUCUCACCCCCAUUCUUAACUAAAUAAACCUCCCAUUUUCAAAAGUAAGUAAAAAUAAAGCGUAGAAAUCGACUUAGGAAAACGGCUCCUAUAGAGGACUAUAGUUACUCCGGGUGCCUAACACCUUCCCGUAGUAAAACCGACCCCCGAACUUAGAAUCUAAGGGUUUUUUCUCAAUUUUUCCCUUCCCAAGAAAAAAGAGAGAUAUCAACGGUCGAAAGGUACAAGUCCAAUUAAUGACUUGGCACCCAAAAACCAUGAUAACAAUGCCUAAUAUUGUGGUGAAUAUAACUCUGGAAAUGUGCUUUUGUUUGCUAUUUGUGAAUAUGAUUUUAUGGAUUUCUUGUUUUACAAGCAACAAGUGUUUAUUUUUAGGAAUAAAGUAGGAAAUUUCUUCAUGAAUUUGGUGUGGUAUUUUGCUUGCACAUGUCUCCAUUAAUUGCAUGUCAUGGUUUAAAACAAAAUUUCUUUCAAAAUUGCCAUGAUGUGAUAAUUAUGGGUCACUAGCAUCUUUAGGUAUCAUAUCAAAUGUUUUUUUAGGUUUUUACCACUUUGUUACUCUUUCUUUGCCAUUCUUAUGCACUUCCUUUUGAUUAUUUCCUACUAUUUUGUGCUUUAUAAUCACUAACCAUUUCAUCUCAUGUGCCAUACAUUCCAUAGCAUUCCACCACCCUCUCCACUUUCUUUAGCUUAGCAUUUAUUUUUUGCAAGUUUUAAUUCAUUUGGUGAUGUAAUUUGUUAUCAUUGGUUUGUAGCUUGGCAAAGGGGCCAUAGAAUGUAUUUAGGCAAUUUUUGUAAUAUGGACUAUGGACACUAUGACGCACCGACACGCACACACUCACCUUAGAUGUAUGCAUAGGAUUGUAUGGUUAAAUAAGCGUUUAGGUUUUAAACACUUAGAGAAAAUCCAUCUUUUUUUCAAAAAAAAACAAUUGAACUUCACUUCAAAAUUUUCAUAAUAAGUAUGAAGUCAACACUUCAUUUUUUUUCCUUUCUUUUUUCUUAAGAAAAAUUCAAUUCAUCUUAACUAUUUAGACUUUCUUUCUAAUCACUAAUCAAACCUCACUUUUUUGCUAAAUCUAAUGCUCAUGAAGCCUCCCAAUCUCCUUCUUCAAAACCUUUUUUUCAAAACUUAAAAUCAAACAAUUAAAACAAAAAACAAGUUUUUUUAGCAAGAACUACGAACGGUUUUGAUCCCGUAAAACGGUACGUAGGCAAUGAGUCAAAACUCAUCCAAGCCGAAAUAAAAUCAAAUUCUACUUCUUCUCACCCCCAUUCUUCACUAAUCAUACCUUCUUUUUUACAAAUAAGCAAUAAAACUAAAGCGUAGAAAUAAACUUAGGAGAACGGUUCUUAUGGAAUACCAUAAUCGCUCCGGGUGCCUAACACCUUCCCGUAGUGAAAACGACCCCCGAAUCUAGAACUUUUUAAGGGUUUUUUCUCCUUUUACCCUUCCCAAGAAAAAAGAGAGAUAUCAACGGUCGAAAGGUUCAAGUCCAAUUAAUGGCUUGGCACCCCAAAACCAUGAUAACAGAAAUGGCGACUUCACUGGGGACUCUUUUUAGCGGGUCGCGCCUAGUUUUCCUUAGUUUAUAUUUACACUUUGUUUUAUUGCUUACAUAUGUGAAUAUUUGUUUACUUUCAUUCAACGUGUGGGGUGAGAAUAUCAAAAGUCCUAUACCCGGGCUGAGUGAACUUAUGUUUAGGUAGAGAUAUAAUCGACAAUUCGAUCCGGGGGUUGCCUCGUGUAUUGGAUUAUGCGAUCAAUCUCACAUAGCUGAGGCAUUUUGAAGGUGAUAUUGUCGGCGUGUGUUGUCAUGCUUAGGCACUUCACUUUCAAUUGUUCGACGAAGCUAUGAACCGUAGUUACCAAACCCAUCCUAGCCUUUUUAGGACGUAGUGCGGUGGCUAAAUUGAGUGUUGUCUCAAACUUUAGUCGUCACGCGAUACUACACUCAAACUAGACCUUCUCACAAAUAAUCAUGGAACGGGUGUCGUCCUGUACUACCAUGAUAUAUGUGAGAGAAGUUGCAGUUUGGGAACUGUGUUAGAACCUUGGUUACUACUAUCCAAAGCCUUAGUUCACCGGACGCCGUGUCCAUCCGUGGCCCCGUUACCUUGAAACUCAAUCCACUUUUAACAACACAAUCAUGCAUACAUGCAUUCAUGCAUAAACAUUUUUCAUGCAUUCAUCGAAGGGUUUAAACAAAUGAGAAUUUUUUUUGUAAAUAAUCACAGGUAUGAAGAAGACUAAGUGCUACAAGUUCAAGGAGGUGGAUUUGGUUAGUUUGAGAGAGUUGGCACUCAAGGUCAAGAGUCAAACAGGGUUCCGACUCCGGUAUGGGGGAUUGCUUACUUUGCUCCGAACCGAUGUGGAAGAGAAGCUAGUGCACACUCUAGUGCAGUUUUAUGAUCCGAGCUUCCGUUGCUUCACUUUCCCGGACUUCCAGUUGGUUCCUACUCUCGAGGCUUACUCCAAUCUAGUGGGUUUACCUAUAGCCGAGAAGACGCCUUUCACCGGUCCCGGGACUUCUCUUACUCCUCUGGUUAUUGCAAAGGAUCUCUACCUCAAGACUUCCGACGUCUCCAACCAUCUUAUUACCAAGUCUCACAUCCGGGGGUUCACUUCGAAGUAUCUUCUUGAUCAGGCUAAUCUCGGUACUACUCGUCAGGAUACACUUGAGGCUAUUCUUGCUUUGCUUAUCUACGGGCUCAUCCUCUUUCCGAACCUCGACAACUUCGUGGACAUGAAUGCUAUCGAGAUCUUUCAUUCCAAGAACCCGGUUCCUACUUUGCUAGCGGAUACUUACCACGCCAUCCAUGACAGGACUCUCAAGGGCCGUGGGUAUAUUCUUUGCUGCAUAUCUCUCUUGUAUAGGUGGUUUAUUUCGCACCUUCCGAGUUCCUUCCAUGACAACUCGGAGAACUGGUCCUACUCGCAGCGGAUUAUGGCUCUCACUCCUAAUGAGGUCGUCUGGCUCACUCCGGCCGCUCAGGUGAAGGAAAUCAUUAUGGGUUGUGGAGACUUUCUCAAUGUACCUCUUCUUGGUACCCGUGGAGAAAUCAACUACAACCCCGAGCUUGCUAUGAGACAGUUCGGUUUCCCUAUGAAGUCGAAGCCCAUCAAUCUUGCCACAUCUCCAGAGUUCUUCUUCUACAUGAAUGCUCCUACCGGACAAAAGAAAGCUUUCGUGGAUGCUUGGUCCAAGGUUCGAAGGAAAAGUGUGAAGCAUCUAGGUGUGAGAUCCGGUGUCGCUCAUGAGGCUUAUACUCAGUGGGUGAUAGAUCGAGCUGAGGAGAUUGGUAUGCCUUAUCCAGCUAUGAGAUACGUGUCUUCAUCCACUCCGUCUAUGCCUUUACCUCUACUUCCCGCAACUCAGGAUAUGUAUCAGGAGCAUCUAGCUAUGGAGAGUCGUGAGAAGCAAGCGUGGAAAGCUCGGUACAAUCAAGCCGAGAAUCUAAUCAUGACUUUGGAUGGUAGAGAUGAGCAGAAGACUCAUGAGAAUCUGAUGUUGAAGAAAGAACUAGCUAAGGCCCGGAGGGAAUUGGAAGAGAAAGACGAGCUGCUUAUGAGGGAUUCCAAGAGAGCUCGAGGACGACGAGAUUUCUUUGACAGAUACUGUGAUUCAGAUUCCGAGUCCGAUGAUCUUCCGACUACUUCCUAUGCUUGAGAGCUCUAUUUGUUUACCUUGUUGAAAAUGUUGUGUAAUUUUGUUUAUUUGCAAGAUUUCUAAUUUGUUUUAAAAUCCUUCGAUGAAAAAAAUAAGUCUUUUGCAUUCGCAUUUGCAUAUCAUGCAUCAUAUGCAUCAUGCAUUGGUCACAAAGGCUUCCAAGUGCUCAUUAUCUCCUGGUUCCUCUGCCGCAGUGUGAAAAGUGGCUCGUGCUCAGAGAGUUUACGAACCAGAUAGAAUUGAUCGAACCAGAGAAUACAGAAGAAAGAAAAGGGCUAUGGAAGAAGAGAACGCUCAGCUUCGCACCGAGUUAGCCUCUCUAAAGGAGGAAUUGGCAAAAGCUAAUGACGUCAUGACUGCUCUACUAGCUGCUCAAGAGCAAUCAGCUACAGCUAUCCCUACAACCACAGCUGCACCAGUAACUACAAGCGUGCUCCCUACCACUUCUGCAGACAAUCGCUUUACUAUGCCAGUGGGGUUUCCGUAUGGGCUUCCACCAUUCUUCACUCCCGUUGCUACAGCAAGCACCUCGGGCACUGCUAACAAUGUUCUGAUCCCUGCAACAAAUGCCGCCUCCAUCAUUGCUACUUUGCCACAAACAACAGCAGCUGUCACUGAGCCUCUGGUACACACUCUGCCUCAAGGUAUUAACAUCAACACACAGCACAGAAGCAUCCCCGUAACCAAGACUAUGGAAGAGAUGAUGGAGGAACUUGCUAAAGAACUCCGUCACGAGAUCCAGGCCAAUCGAGGGAAUGCAGACUCUGUCAAAACUCAAGACCUUUGCUUAGUGUCAAAAGUGGAUGUUCCUAAAAAGUUCAAGAUUCCGGACUUCGACCGGUACAACGGGCUAACUUGUCCUCAAAAUCACAUCAUCAAAUACGUCCGGAAGAUGGGCAAUUACAAAGACAAUGAUUCCCUUAUGAUCCACUGUUUUCAGGAUAGUCUGAUGGAGGAUGCCGCAGAGUGGUAUACUAGUUUGAGUAAGAAUGACAUCCAUACCUUUGAUGAGUUAGCCACCGCUUUCAAGAGCCAUUAUGGGUUUAACACUCGACUGAGGCCAAAUAGGGAGUUUCUCAGGUCCCUAUCUCAGAAGAAGGAGGAAAGUUUCCGUGAAUAUGCGCAAAGGUGGAGAGGGGCGGCUGCCCGUAUCACCCCUGCUUUAGAUGAAGAAGAAAUGACCCAGACGUUCUUAAAGACGUUGAAGAAAGAUUAUGUUGAGAGGAUGAUCAUCGCUGCCCCGAACAACUUUUCGGAGAUGGUCACUAUGGGAACCCGCCUUGAGGAAGCCGUCAGGGAUGGGAUCAUUGUGUUUGAGAAAGCUGAAUCCUCUGUGAGUGCAUCGAAGAGAUAUGGUAAUGGACACCACAAGAAGAAAGAAACUGAAGUGGGGAUGGUAUCAGCUGGAGCCGGUCAAUCCAUGGCUACUAUUGCUCCCAUCAAUGCAGCUCAAAUGCCUCCGUCAUACCCAUAUAUGCCAUAUUCUCAGCAUCCGUUCUUCCCACCGUUUUAUCAUCAGUACCCUUUGCCACCGGGUCAACCUCAAGUGCCCGUCAAUGCAAUUGCCCAACAGAUGAAACAACAGUUGCCGGUUCAACAACAACAACAAAAUCAGCAAGCUAGGCCUACUUUCCCUCCGAUACCGAUGUUAUAUGCUGAGUUGCUUCCAACUUUACUCCAGAGAGGGCAUUGUACGACUAGACAGGGCAAGCCACCACCUGAUCCGUUGCCUCCAAGGUUCAGGUCUGAUCUCAAAUGCGAUUUUCAUCAAGGUGCCUUAGGUCAUGAUGUCGAGGGGUGUUAUGCUUUGAAGUAUAUCGUGAAGAAGCUCAUUGAUCAAGGGAAGCUCACUUUUGAGAAUAAUGUCCCACAUGUCCUUGACAAUCCGCUACCAAAUCAUGCCGCUGUGAAUAUGAUCGAAGUAUGUGAAGAAACUCCUAGACUUGAUGUCCGCAAUGUCGCAACUCCUCUGGUACCUCUACACAUCAAGCUGUGCAAAGCUUCUCUGUUCAAUCAUGAUCAUGCUAAGUGUCUGGGAUGUCUCCGUGAUCCUUUGGGUUGUUAUGCUGUUCAAGACGACAUCCAAAGCUUAAUGAAUGAUAAUCUUCUGACUGUCAGUGAUGUUUGCGUGAUUGUGCCAGUUUUUCACGAUCCGCCUGUCAAGAGUGUACCUUUGAAGAAGAAUGCUGAGCCUUUGGUGAUAAGGUUGCCAGGACCAAUUCCUUAUGUUUCGGAUAAGGCUGUUCCAUACAAAUACAAUGCUACUAUGAUAGAAAAUGGAGUAGAGGUGCCUCUAGCCUCCUUUGCCACAGUAAGCAAUAUUGCCGAAGGGACUUCUGCAGCGCUAAGAAGCGGGAAAGUUCGUCCGCCGUUAUUUCAGAAGAAGGUAGCUACCCCGACCAUUCCACCAGUUGAAGAAGCAACUCCAACCGUUGUCUCACCCAUUGCUACAGAUGUGAACCAGCCUGGCAAAUCUAUAGAGGAUUCGAAUUUAGAUGAGAUUCUGAGGAUAAUAAAGAGGAGCGACUACAAGAUCGUUGAUCAGUUGCUGCAGACUCCUUCAAAGAUAUCUGUCUUGUCAUUACUCUUAAGCUCUGAGGCUCACAGGAAUACUUUGUUGAAAGUGCUGGAGCAGGCUUAUGUUGACCACGAAGUUACGGUAGAUCGUUUCGGUGGCAUAGUGGGAAAUAUUACUGCUUGUAACAAUCUCUGGUUUAGUGAAGAAGAAUUGCCGGAAGCGGGAAAGAGUCACAAUCUGGCUUUACACAUCUCGGUGAAUUGUAAAUCAGACAUGAUAUCAAAUGUGUUGGUGGAUACCGGUUCCUCUCUCAAUGUAAUGCCCAAGACAACUCUAGAUCAGUUGAGCUACCGUGGGACCCCUUUGAGAAGAAGUACUUUCUUGGUCAAAGCUUUUGAUGGAUCUCGAAAGAAUGUGCUGGGAGAGAUAGACUUGCCGAUAACCAUUGGCCCUGAGAAUUUCUUGGUUACUUUCCAAGUGAUGGACAUUAAUGCAUCCUACAGUUGCCUGCUGGGAAGACCGUGGAUACACGAUGCAGGUGCGGUUACUUCCACCUUACAUCAGAAGUUGAAAUUUGUGAAGAAUGGAAAACUCGUUACAAUCCAUGGUGAAGAAGCAUACUUAGUCAGCCAAUUGUCUUCUUUUUCUUGUAUUGAAGCAGGGUCUGCUGAAGGGACUGCUUUCCAAGGUUUGACCAUUGAAGGUGCAGAGUCAAAGGAAGCUGGGGCUGCUAUGGCUUCAUUGAAGGAUGCUCAGAGAGCCAUUCAAGAAGGUCAGACUGCCGGCUGGGGCAAGGUGAUACAGCUCUGUGAGAACAAGCGCAAAGAAGGUCUCGGGUUCUCCCCGUCAUCAAGGGUUUCCUCAGGAGUCUUCCACAGUGCAGGGUUUGUUAAUGCUAUCUCCGAAGAAGCCACUGGAUCUGGUCUCAGGCCUGUAUUUGUUACACCAGGAGGCAUUGCGAGUGAUUGGGAUGCCAUUGACAUUCCUUCAAUCAUGCAUGUUUCCGAGUAAUGCGUCUUGUUGCUUUAGCGCUUUGUUUUCAAAAAUAACAAUCCUCUCGCUCUGCCCAAAGCGAGAGUGAUAUUUUCUGUAAGGGCGUGUUUGUUUCGGCAUUGCCGUUUGAUGAAUAAAAAUUGUCGUUUCUUUCACGACUGCUUUUUUUUUAGUGCCCUUUUCUUGGAAAAAUGGUAAUGCCAGAAAAAACCAAAACGUCUGUAUUUUCUUAUUAAUUUCAAAAAUCUGCAUGAAAAAAAAACUCUUUCUAAAAUCAUCCAAUCAUUAUAUGCAGGUUGAACCAUAAUAAACCCGUUGAACACAGUAAUCCUACGGUUCCUCCAAAUUUUGAAUUCCCUGUAUAUGAAGCUGAAGAUGAGGAAGGUGAUGACAUACCGUAUGAGAUCACUCGGUUACUUGAGCAAGAAAAGAAAGCCAUUCAGUCUCACCAGGAAGAGAUUGAGCUUAUCAACAUAGGUACCGAGGAAAACAAGCGAGAAAUCAAGAUUGGUGCUACUCUAGAGGAAGGGGUUAAACAGAAGAUCAUCCAGCUCCUCCGGGAAUAUCCGGAUAUUUUUGCAUGGUCCUAUGAAGAUAUGCCAGGUCUAGACCCUAUGAUCGUGGAGCAUCGGAUCCCUACCAAGCCUGAAUGUCCUCCCGUCAGACAGAAAUUGAGAAGGACUCAUCCUGAUAUGGCUCUCAAGAUUAAGAGCGAGGUUCAAAAACAGAUUGAUGCGGGUUUCCUAAUGACAGUUGAGUAUCCUGAAUGGGUUGCCAAUAUUGUGCCUGUGCCAAAAAAGGAUGGUAAAGUCCGGAUGUGUGUUGACUUCAGAGACCUGAACAAAGCCAGUCCAAAAGACAACUUUCCAUUACCUCAUAUUGAUGUGCUUGUUGAUAAUACUGCUCAAUCUAAGGUGUUCUCCUUCAUGGACGGUUUUUCUGGUUAUAAUCAGAUCAAAAUGUCUCCCGAAGAUAGAGAAAAGACAUCUUUUAUCACUCCAUGGGGUACUUUCUGCUACAAAGUGAUGCCAUUCGGUCUAAUUAAUGCUGGUGCUACCUACCAAAGGGGAAUGACUACUUUGUUUCAUGACAUGAUUCACAAAGAAGUUGAGGUAUAUGUGGAUGACAUGAUUGUGAAGUCAGCAGAUGAGGAGCAGCAUGUUGAAUAUUUAACAAAGAUGUUUGAAAGGUUGAGAAAAUACAAGCUGCGUUUGAAUCCCAACAAAUGUACAUUCGGUGUCAGGUCCGGAAAGUUAUUAGGCUUCAUUGUCAGCCAAAAGGGCAUUGAAGUCGAUCCUGAUAAAGUCCGGGCCAUCCAAGAAAUGCCAGCUCCACAGACAGAGAAGCAAGUCAGAGGUUUCCUCGGGCGUUUGAAUUACAUCUCCCGGUUCAUAUCUCACAUGACCGCAACCUGUGGGCCGAUCUUCAAGCUGCUUAGAAAAAACCAGCCUAUUGUAUGGAAUGAUGAGUGCCAAGAAGCUUUUGAUAGCAUCAAGAAUUACCUGCUGGAACCACCUAUCCUUGUCCCACCCGUGGAAGGAAGGCCGUUGAUCAUGUAUUUGGCAGUAUUUGAUGAAUCCAUGGGAUGCGUGCUUGGUCAACAAGAUGAAACUGGAAAGAAAGAGCAUGCUAUCUACUAUCUAAGCAAGAAGUUCACCGAUUGUGAAACUCGGUAUACAAUGCUUGAGAAGACUUGUUGUGCUUUGGCCUGGGCCGCUAAACGCCUGCGUCAUUAUUUGGUGAAUCAUACAACUUGAUUGAUAUCCAGAAUGGAUCCGAUCAAGUAUAUCUUUGAGAAAGCUGCCGUUACUGGAAAGAUUGCACGCUGGCAGAUGCUUUUGUCUGAAUAUGAUAUUGUGUUCAAAACUCAAAAGGCAAUCAAAGGUAGCAUUCUUGCCGAUCAUCUUGCCUACCAACCUCUUGAUGAUUACCAACCAAUUGAGUUCGACUUCCCUGAUGAAGAGAUCAUGUAUUUGAAAUCCAAAGACUGCGAAGAACCGUUGAUUAAUGAAGGUCCAGAUCCCAAUAGCAAGUGGGGUUUAGUCUUUGAUGGUGCUGUCAAUGCUUAUGGCAAAGGAAUCGGGGCAGUCAUUGUAUCCCCGCAAGGGUAUCACAUUCCUUUUACCGCCAGAAUCUUGUUCGAAUGUACCAACAAUAUGGCUGAGUAUGAAGCAUGUAUCUUUGGGAUCGAGGAAGCAAUUGACAUGAGAAUCAAACACCUCGACAUCUAUGGAGAUUCUGCGCUCGUCAUCAAUCAGAUAAAGGGUGAAUGGGAGACCCACCAUGCUAAUUUGAUUCCUUAUCGUGAUUAUGCGAGACGUUUGCUGACAUAUUUUACAAAGGUUGAGCUGCACCAUAUUCCUCGUGAUGAGAACCAAAUGGCUGAUGCUCUUGCUACUCUAUCCUCCAUGUUUCGAGUAAACCAUUGGAAUGAUGUGCCAAUAAUCAAAAUGCAACGCCUUGAAAGACCUUCACAUGUGUUUGCUAUUGGGGAUGUGAUCGAUCAGGCUGGUGAAAAUGUGGUUGACUAUAAACCCUGGUACUAUGACAUCAAGCAGUUCUUGCUGAGCCGUGAGUAUCCGCCGGGUGCUUCCAAACAAGACAAGAAGACCUUGAGAAGAUUGGCCAGUAGAUUCCUGUUAGAUGGAGAUAUUCUGUACAAGAGAAACUAUGACAUGGUAUUGUUAAGAUGUGUUGAUGAACAUGAAGCAGAGCAGUUAAUGCAUGAUGUACAUGACGGUACCUUCGGGACCCAUGCUACAGGGCAUACUAUGUCAAGAAAGUUGUUACGAGCAGGUUACUACUGGAUGGCCAUGGAGCAUGAUUGCUACCAGUACGCCAGAAAAUGCCACAAAUGUCAAAUCUAUGCUGAUAAGAUUCAUGUGCCUCCGCACGCUCUCAAUGUUAUGUCAUCCCCAUGGCCGUUCUCAAUGUGGGGCAUCGACAUGAUUGGAAGAAUUGAACCGAAGGCUUCAAAUGGUCAUCGUUUCAUCUUAGUGGCAAUUGACUACUUCACCAAGUGGGUUGAAGCAGCAUCUUAUACCAAUGUGACCAAGCAAGUGGUAGCUAAGUUCAUCAAGAACAACAUCAUCUGUCGAUAUGGUGUUCCCAGCAAGAUUAUUACCGACAAUGGUACCAACCUGAACAACAAUGUGGUGCAAGCUCUUUGUGAAGAAUUCAAAAUUGAGCAUCAUAACUCUUCUCCCUAUAGACCUCAGAUGAAUGGUGCAGUUGAGGCCGCCAACAAGAAUAUCAAGAGAAUUGUCCAGAAGAUGGUGACCACUUACAAGGACUGGCAUGAGAUGUUACCCUAUGCUCUGCAUGGCUACCGUACUACUGUGCGCAGUUCAACAGGGGCAACCCCUUUCUCUCUUGUAUAUGGUAUGGAAGCAGUUCUUCCUUUGGAAGUGGAGAUCCCAUCUCUCCGUGUGAUCAUGGAAGCAAAGUUAUCUGAGGCUGAAUGGUGCCAAAGCCGGUAUGAUCAGUUGAAUUUGAUUGAGGAAAAACGUAUGGAUGCCAUGGCUCGUGGACAGUCAUAUCAAGCAAGAAUGAAGACUGCCUUUGACAAGAAAGUCCAUCCUCGAGAAUUCAAGGUAGGGGAACUUGUAUUGAAAAGGAGGAUAAGCCAGCAACCCGACCCAAGGGGCAAGUGGACGCCUAACUAUGAAGGUCCUUAUGUUGUCAAGAAGGCCUUCUCCGGUGGUGCUUUAAUCCUUACACACAUGGAUGGUGUAGAACUUCCAAAUCCAGUGAAUGCCGAUAUAGUCAAGAAAUACUUUGCCUAGAAAUAUGAAAAGAACAGCGUGGUAGGUCGAAAACCCGAAAGGGCGGCCUAGGCAAAAAUGCGCUUCCCGGUGGAUCGAAAACCCGAAAGGGCGGUCCAGGCAAAAAUAAGGGACAAAAAAUAUAUGAAAAGCUCGCUGAGAUUGUACACAACUCAGGCAAGAAUGAGCGUCUCGAUGAGCCGAAAACCCGGAAGGGCGGUUCAUGCAAAAAUGAGAUUGAAACAAAAGGCAAGUAACUAUAUCUAGUCAACCACCGUCUCCCUUGGGGCAUCUGCGGCUGUUAAUGCCUAUCUUCAUCUAAAGCUCCUACGCUUGCGAAUUCAAAGUUUCCAGGAAAUGUAAUGAUUGCUGUGUUCAAUGUACCACCAACCAAUAAAAUUACCAUUUUCCAAGCUUUGUGAAUCCGUGGAGUCAUGCCUUUGGCUGACCACCACUCUUAUACAUCAAUUUGAGCCUUUGCUUUUGUUUGAAAACUCUAUUUUUUCUUCUACUUUCAAAGCUAUAUACAAAACAUUUUCUUUCUAUUUUGAUAAUGACAAUGCUUGAAACAAACAUUUUGAAAAUUGAAAACUUUUUGUCUAUUUUGAAAAGCAAACCUGAGCAACAGGGUACAUUCAAAUGAAACAUGCAUGAGUGAGAGUAUGUUGAUGUCUAUUUCAAUAUGUGUUACAAGCAGGUUCUCCUCCAGGAUAGUCUGUGGUCAAUGGCAAGAAUGAAAAAGCAGAAUGAAAAUGCAUGAAAAUGAAAAGGCUCGCUAAGUUGAAAACCCGGAAGGGCGGCUUAGGCAAGAAUGAGCACCCCGCUGGAUUGAAAACCCGAAAGGGCAGUUCAGGCAAAAAUGGGGCAUUGAAAAGAAUUUAUUUCCCCGGUGGAUCGAAAACCCGAAAGGGCGAUCCAGGCAAAAAUGGGAUGCAAAAAAUGAAUGAAUGAAGUUGAGAAUAUAACAUGCAAAAAGCAUUGACCACAGAUGCAAUGUCUACAACAUACCCAGCACUGAAAUGCCCAGCACAACGGCGUUUUCCCCAGUGGAGCCUCUCAAGAUUCUAUCUCCAGCAAGUUGCAUAUCUACCUGCCCUCAGCUAUGGUUCCGACACGUCUCCCAACGACGUCAUCUCCAAAGAAGAUUUCCAAGAAUGUGUAAUAUAGCACGAGCCACUACGUGCCCAAUACUCUAAUGUCUUGUCUUCCCCGUAAAGUCGUGCCUACAAACUGCCAACAGUCAUGCAUUACAAGCAUUCAUACAUGCACAAUCAUGCGUAAUACGUGCCCAUGCAUUUAAUAAAACUGUUAUAUCAUCCAUGCAUAUCGCAUUUCCAAUAUCAAUAUCAGUCUCAAUUCAAAACUCAUGACAGGUCCUUUGUCAAAACCUUGUGAGCCAAUAAUAUCGGUCAAUUUCUACCUUUCAAAUCAAAUCGACGUCAAGUCAAUCUCAAUCUAUAUUUUGCCAACAAACCAAUCCCCAGUGAAUAUGUUUCUGUUUGGUCAAGUGGCUAGUUCAAGGCCAAGAACAGCUUGUACCUAUCAAUUUGCUUAUGUUAUCGGUCGAGUGCCCAGCUCAAUCCAAGAGCAGCUUGUACCUGUCAAUAUGUUUCCGUUUGGUCAAGUGACUAGCUCAAUCCAAGAGCAGCUUGUACCUGUCUAUCCGUUUCUCUCCGGUGGAGUAACUAGUUCGCAUCCAAGAACAAGCUCGCACCUGUCUAUUUGCCUUGCUUUCAGUCGAGUAACCAGUUCGAAUCCUUAAGAACAACUCGUACCUGCCAAUUUUACAUGUUUUCAGUCGAGACACCAGUUCGAAUCCAUAGGAACAACUCGUACUUGUCAAUUUUCUCUUUUUCCAGUCGAGUCACCAGUUCGAAUCCGUAAGAACAACUCGUACUUGCCAAUUUUCUCUUUAUCCCCAAGUGAGCUACCCAGUUCGAAUCCAUAAGAACAACUCAUGUUUGUCCAGUAACCUCUAUCCCCUGUGAAGUGACCAGUUCGAAUCCAUAAGAACAACUCGCAGUUGUCGGUUUGUUUCAUCCCCGGUCAAGUGGCUAGUUCGAAUCCAAGAACAGCUUGUACCUGCCCAACUUGUUUCUAGUUUCCCGUUACUCUGCUAUUCACUAUCUUUGUCAAUGUCUACCAAUCCCGCAAUGGAUACGACAUAUUUUGUUAAUUCCAAUCCCCAUGAGGUCUUGCAUUCAUAAUCCAAAUGAUGCAUGGCAUGCAUAUUAUUUGAAUAUGGGUAGGCGUAUUUUUACGUCCAAACACAGUGCAAAUGCUAAUAUUUAAGUAUCUUCGUCCUGUCAAGCCAAAGACUCCGUCUCUUGACUCUCCAGACAAAGAAACUUAAAUAGGGGCAGCUGUUAUACCCUGUUUUUGGACCUAAAAAAUACUGGGCCCAAUUUCAUUUCAAACUUCGUCAAUUAUCAAAUUUCAGCUGCACAGUUCAAUUUGUCUCUGCCUCGCAGUAUUUUCAAUCACAAUUUUACCUAUGUUUUUCUUGCAUAAAACCUUUUAAAAUGUCUUUACUGGUCUUGUAAGUCACGCAAAAGUGUCUCUGAAUCAUUAUGUUGCUUUUUUUCCACAGUUUAUUUCAAAAUUUGCAAAAAGUCAUACAGAAGGGUAUUUUGGUCAUUUCCUGCAGUGGGACCCAUUUUCAUCCUUGUGACUGUCUCUGAGUCUUUUCAAAUUCAUUUUUUACUUUCCAUCAGUAAACCUUGCUAAUUUCAUUUCGAACUUGCAUCUGAGUCAGUGUCGAGUCAAUUUGAGUCUGUUUAGGUCAUUUUUUUAGCCCUAGGGGCAUUUUGGUCAUUUCACAUAAAAUUUUGGCAUGGGGAGGUUACUUUGAAGUACCUCAUUUAGGCCAUUGGUUCGUUUUAGUCCGUUUUGUCAAUUUUAUUUUAGUUUCACUUUACGUUUCGUCAGAUUGCCAAUUUUAUUCCAAUUUUAUUUUUAUUUUACAUUUUGGUCCCCAAGAGGUCCAAAAUUGCGUGUCAGUCCAGAAUUUUCUUUUUUUAUAUUUCAGUCCUUUUUGUCAAUUGCAGUUUAGUCCCUUAAUUUUUCAAUUUUGCAGAAAGGUCCCAAAUUAAUUCUAAGUCCAAGGCCGUGCCAUUUCCAUACAAAUCCAGGUGUCACAUUUUCAUUGGCUCAAGUGUACACAUGUCAACUAUAUAAACAGUGAGUCAGAAUCAGAAGCAAUAAUCACACGCCACUUCACCAAAAAACAGGAUCAAACUUUCUCUUUCUUGUCAGUUAGAUCAAACCAAAAAAUCACAGAGAAAUCACCAAGAACACAAGAACCCUAAGAUUUCCAGAACAAAAUUCAUACACAAAUUCAUUGAUUUUCACAUCAAUCCUCAGAGAUUCGUGUGAAUCUUCAUCACCGGAUUGAGGAAUUCCCCUACAAUUCAAAGUGCGAGCUCACAUUGAAGCAAGCUCAAGCACUGAUCAUAGGGAUUUUUCACACAGAUUCAAAAACGUUGAAGCAAGCUCAAGCACAUAAUCACAGAGAAGCAGAGAAAGAAUCAGAGAAGAUGAAGAUGAACCGGUAAACCGAUUUAUUUUCGGUCCAAAAGCAAGCAAAAUCAUCAAAACCGUCAAGAACAUUCAAGUUUUCCCAAAGAUUUCCUCCAUUAAAGGUUUCAACCAGAACCUUAGGUAAAACUCAGAAUCUUUUCUCAAAAGUAAUAUCACUGUUAAACCUGUAGAAAACAAUCACGCAAGCAAAGCGUAUCAAAAAAUUUCCAGAAUUCAAAGAAAGCCGUAACCGUAAACACGAAACCUAGAUCCAUAAGGAUCUAAGUUUUGAAAGCAAGAACGAGUACUAGAAGCGUAAUCAAACAACGAAACGAUGUAGAUCUUUAAACGAUCUAAACAUUUCUUUUCAAAAACCAAAAAAAUCAGUUUCAAAACCGUACGGAACUUUUUAGAUCUACAACGUUUCAAACCGUAUUUGAAAAAACAGCUGCUGGAUUCGUGUUUAGGGUUAAAGGACGAAUCAAAAUAUGCAAAAAUAUUUGAGUUCUGGAAAUUUUUCACCGGAAACUGCUAGGUCUCGCCGGAGAAGAUGAAGUUUCCGGCGGACCUUCAAGGUCUCCGCCGUAGCUUCAUCCUCACCGGCGGUGAGGGUUUAGAGAGAGAUGAGAGAAGAGAGAGGGGUUAGAGAGAGAAAGAGGAAUACGAAAUGAAAAAACCGGCGCGCUAGGGUUUAUAUAGAGUGCUAGACCGGACCGGUUCAAGACCGGUCCAAUCCCAUGCGUUGUGAGCCCUUAGAUCUAGGGUUUGGGAUCUUGGAUCAAUCCAACGAUCCCUGAGCAUUCCUGUGAGAUCCGGAUCCCUUGGCUUUGGGCCUGGGCCUCUUUUCUUUGCUUUUCUACGUUUUUGCUUUUUUUGUGCUAUUUGCACCGUGUUUCCUUGCUAUCUGCACCUAUUGCUUGUUUACUUCUUUUACAAAAAUUCCUAAAAAAAUCCUAGUGGUUUCUUGAUACAUUCUUGGCAUUUCUAUAGCGUUUUCUUGCAUAAAAAUGUUAAAAUGGCAUGAACUAAUUCCAUGUAUUUUUGUACUUUUGGUAUGCAUUUUGCUAUGUUUUGUUCUUGACAUUUUGAUAGUAUGACAUGGAUAAAUGAUGCCUAAUAUUGUGGUGAAUAUAACUCUGGAAAUGUGCUUUUGUUUGCUAUUUGUGAAUAUGAUUUUAUGGAUUUCUUGUUUUACAAGCAACAAGUGUUUAUUUUUAGGAAUAAAGUAGGAAAUUUCUUCAUGAAUUUGGUGUGGUAUUUUGCUUGCACAUGUCUCCAUUAAUUGCAUGUCAUGGUUUAAAACAAAAUUUCUUUCAAAAUUGCCAUGAUGUGAUAAUUAUGGGUCACUAGCAUCUUUAGGUAUCAUAUCAAAUGUUUUUUUAGGUUUUUACCACUUUGUUACUCUUUCUUUGCCAUUCUUAUGCACUUCCUUUUGAUUAUUUCCUACUAUUUUGUGCUUUAUAAUCACUAACCAUUUCAUCUCAUGUGCCAUACAUUCCAUAGCAUUCCACCACCCUCUCCACUUUCUUUAGCUUAGCAUUUAUUUUUUGCAAGUUUUAAUUCAUUUGGUGAUGUAAUUUGUUAUCAUUGGUUUGUAGCUUGGCAAAGGGGCCAUAGAAUGUAUUUAGGCAAUUUUUGUAAUAUGGACUAUGGACACUAUGACGCACCGACACGCACACACUCACCUUAGAUGUAUGCAUAGGAUUGUAUGGUUAAAUAAGCGUUUAGGUUUUAAACACUUAGAGAAAAUCCAUCUUUUUUUCAAAAAAAAACAAUUGAACUUCACUUCAAAAUUUUCAUAAUAAGUAUGAAGUCAACACUUCAUUUUUUUUCCUUUCUUUUUUCUUAAGAAAAAUUCAAUUCAUCUUAACUAUUUAGACUUUCUUUCUAAUCACUAAUCAAACCUCACUUUUUUGCUAAAUCUAAUGCUCAUGAAGCCUCCCAAUCUCCUUCUUCAAAACCUUUUUUUCAAAACUUAAAAUCAAACAAUUAAAACAAAAAACAAGUUUUUUUAGCAAGAACUACGAACGGUUUUGAUCCCGUAAAACGGUACGUAGGCAAUGAGUCAAAACUCAUCCAAGCCGAAAUAAAAUCAAAUUCUACUUCUUCUCACCCCCAUUCUUCACUAAUCAUACCUUCUUUUUUACAAAUAAGCAAUAAAACUAAAGCGUAGAAAUAAACUUAGGAGAACGGUUCUUAUGGAAUACCAUAAUCGCUCCGGGUGCCUAACACCUUCCCGUAGUGAAAACGACCCCCGAAUCUAGAACUUUUUAAGGGUUUUUUCUCCUUUUACCCUUCCCAAGAAAAAAGAGAGAUAUCAACGGUCGAAAGGUUCAAGUCCAAUUAAUGGCUUGGCACCCCAAAACCAUGAUAACACCUUAGAUAAACAUUAAAUGUAAAAGUCUGGAGGGAAAAAUUAGGUUAAAACUAGAGCUGACAUUUUGCAUAAAUUAAAUCUAGGGUUAAUAUAGUAAAGUCACGCGAAAAAAUACGUUAAAUCUAGGGUUAAUAUUGCGUCACGGGUUAACAUUUAGAAAUAAGAGAUGACAUUUUGCAUAAAUUAAAUCUAGGGUUAAUAUAGUAAAGUCACACGAAAAAAUUAGGUUAAAUCUAGGGUUAAUAUUGCGUCACGGGUUACCAUUUAGAAAUAAGAGAUGUCAUUUUGCAUAAAUUAAAUCUAAGGUUAAUAUAAUUUGUUUAGUAAAUUUAAAGAGAAAAAUUAGGAGCGAUUUGUUUAUUUUGAUUUCCCUAACAAUUAACGUUAACAUUUUGUUUAAGUUAAACAUGAUUAAUUAAAUAGGGUUAAUACAGUAAAAUUAAGCAAAGAAGUUAGGUUAAAUCUAGGGCAAAAUUUUGCGUUGGGGUUAACUUUAAGAAAUAAAAUAGGUUAAGUAUAGCAAGAAGGAUUAACAUUUAUAAGUAAGAGAUUAGAUUAAGUAUAGCGAGACGGGUUAACGGUUAUUCCUUUCCAAAAAAACAACAUAUAAUUGGGAACAUCAUUUUAUUUUACUUUAGAUAAAUAUUAAAUGCAAAAGUGUGGAGGGAAAAAUUAGGUUAAAAUUAGAGAUGACAUUUUGCAUAAAUUAAAUCUAGGGUUAAUAUAGUAAAGUCACGCGAAAAAAUAUGUUAAAUCUAGGGUUAAUAUUGCAUCAAGGAUUAACAUUUAGAAAUAAGAGAUAACAUUUUGCAUAAAUUAAAUCUAGGGUUAAUAUAGUAAAGUCACAUGAAAAAAUUAGGUUAAAUCUAAGGUUAAUAUUGCGUCAGGGGUUAACAUUUAAAAAUAAGAGAUAACAUUUUGCAUAAAUUAAAUCUAGGGUUAAUAUAGUAAAGUCACAUGAAAAAAUUAGGUUAAAUCUAAGGUUAAUAUUGCGUCAGGGGUUAACAUUUAAAAAUAAGAGAUAACAUUUUGCAUAAAUUAAAUCUAGGGUUAAUAUAAUUUUUGUAGUAAAAUUAGGAGCGAUUUGUUUAAUUUGAUUUCCCUAACAAUUAACGUUAACAUUUUGAUUAAAUUAAAUAGGGUUAAUACUGUAAAAUUAAGCAAAGAAGUUAGGUUAAAUCUAGGGCAAAAUUUUGCGUUCGGGUUAACUUUAAGGAAUAAGAGAUUACAAUAGUUGUUAUGUUAUUUUUUAUGCAGUGUUUUAGGCUCUGUGUUGCAAAAUUUUGGUUUACGCAGUUUUGAUUUUCACAUUGAUAAAGGACAAUAAUUUUCCGUAAUUUAUAAGAUUUCUUCUUCGGAGUUAAAUUUUUUAAAAAUACGUUAUUCAACCCGUGCGAAUUCGCACGGGUUUGUAACUAGUUUGAAUGACAAAAAAAUAAAAAUGUGGAAUGGGUUGAGAGAAAGAGAAAGGAUGGAAAAAGAAUUAGUACGUACUUUGCAAUUAUGGAAUUAAAACCUCUUUUAUCACACAAUAAUGUGCUAAAGCUCAUUAACACAUUGAUUUUUUUUUUUUUAUUUUUAUUUUUUUUUUUUUAUUUUUUAUAGUUGUUCAAUAGACCUCUCAAAAUUGUUCACUUAACUACAAAAGCUAAUCAAAAGAUGCAUCUUGAUCGAAAUUCACAUACAAAAUCAAUCGAUCGGGGUCAUAAACUGAUUGAAAGAGAAAUUGAAAGGUCUAUUGAACAACUUACCUAUAAUUUUCUUCUUUUCUUUUCUAUUAAUUGGUGUGGGCUUCCACAUGAGUAGAGAUUCGCCAAACAGUUCUUUAUUUCACAAUUUAAGUGAAGCAAUUUGUUAUCAUUCCAAUAAGGGAUAGUGUCUGAGGGGGCACUUAUUAAGAAAGAAAUUAAAUACUACCUUAAAAAUUGUGUAUUUAUUUUUAAAAAAUUGGAAAGAGAUCAUUUUAAUAUAAAAUUUGUCUUUUCUUUUUACUUUUAAUUCUUUUAACAAAUGUCCCUAAACUAUUGUUACUGUGUCUUCCAACAACUACUACAUCUGUCCCUAAUUAUAAAACCAUUUUGAGAAUUUUUUUUGUCCCUUUUUAUAAGACCCAUUUUCUAUUUCCAACUACAUUAAUUAUUUCUUUACAUGCAUGGCCCUAUUUAUUAUUGUUGUGUAUGUCUUCAAAUUGCAAAGUUGGGAAGCAGAGAAAUCGUGACACGAUUUUGGUAAUGUCGUGAGCUGGUUUUCAGGGCGUCCAAUCGUUACACGAUUUUUGGCUUGCUGGGCAAGAUUUUCAGGAUAAGGUUGGUCGUACCUUGGAUCGUACGCAUCAAUCGUGGCACGAUUGGGGGAAAAACGUGACACGAUUUUGACGCAGAAGACAGCUAUAAAAGUGUUCUUUGCAGAUUUUGAAUGAGAGCUUGAAGAGAGAGAAACUUGGGAAAUCAAAGGAAGCAACUUUAGGGAUUAGGGUCUUUGAUUAGAGUUCUCUUGGGUUGGGAAACAUUGCAAACACCUUGGUGAGUGAAAAUCAUUGAGUGUCUUGUUCAUUGGUGAGAUUGGGAAAAAUGGUAGAAAUUAGGGUUGUUCUUUGUGAACUUGUCAAAGCUAAUUUCUUGUAACCCUUUUCUAUCUCUUUGGAAGAACUCAUUGAUAGUGGAUUGGAGAGUUCAAUCUCUCCUCCAGAGUAUGUCAAGUUUGGACCGAACUGGAUGAACAAUCUUUGGUGUGUUUGUUUCUCUCUUCUCUCCUUUUAUCUUGUGCUUGUGUUUUGUGCUUUUCACUUUGUUUCCUAGAUUAGAUCUAGGUGUUGUUAUUGUUGAUUAUUGUUUGCAUUCACUUUGUUAUUGGUUACUACUUUCCUUUGCUCCACACAUCAUAGUUUGUUUUGGUGUGAUUUUGAGACCGGAAUUCACAACAAUUAUACAUUUUUUCUUCAAUCAGCAAUAAAUAGAAUGUUGAAAACAUAAGCCAACCCUCUUUCUUAAAGGAUAAAAUUGUAAAAACAAUAGUAAUUACAAACAUAUUUAAUACAAAUAUCAUCUAUCUUAAUUCCCGUUAUUUUUUCAGAAGAGUCUUAUAAUUAGAGACGGAGGUAGUAUAUCAUAAGUCUCAACUCUCAACCUUCUUCUUAUGUGAUAAUCAAGAUUUUCUCAACAAAUCAACACCAUUGUCAUCUCUAUCUCCAACAUCAAUUAUAAACAUCACACCUUAGUUAAACAGCCAAAUCACAUGCCAAGUUACUUAGAAGUUAGAACCACCAUUCAACAAAGAAAUUAGGUUACUUCAAACUUGAAUGAUCCUCUUGUCCUAGUAAAAGUCCGCGUGUGUAUUGCAAAGUUCGUUAAAAGUACAUUUCGUUAAAAGUACAUUUAUAGUGAACUACUGAACUUGAUGUCGGUGAUUGCUUAUAUUUUGCAACAACAAAUUCUACACUAAAUUAAUUGAUUUAAACCUAUGAAGGACGGAUACGGACACAGACACUAGACACAAUACAGACACUGAUAUGCCGACACAACUAAUAAUUUGAAAAUAUCACAUUAUUCGGUUUAAUUACAAGUGUCGGUGUCGUGUUGGUAUCAGACACGACACGUGUCCGACACUGGGACACGCCUAAUUCGAGAAGUGUCUGUGCUUCGUACCAAGUCAUUUUUUUAAUAAAAUUACUUGUUCAUCAGGCAAACACCAAUUCUCAUACCAAUUCGCUCUCAUUAUAUGCUCAAAUUUCAAAACUCGGUUUUGGUUGAAAAUGAAAUCUUAACCGAUCAAAGUAGAAGCUAUCUCCGUAUUGUGGAUUAGUUUUUCACUAUAGAAAAAAUGAUUUUGAUAAUUAAAAACUAUUUAGAGGUUAAUUUAUUAUAUUAAAAAAAUUAAAUAUGUUUUGUGUUAGAUUAUUAUAAUGUAAACCAUUUUUUGAAAGAAAUUGUCUUCAGCACAUGAUUGGAACUCUCGAUGAACUCAUUUUGAACGCAUACAUAUAUAGUAUAUGAAUGAUUGGAUUUCAAGAGAGAACAAUUCUUGUGCACAUUUAUUCGGAUUUGAAUAAAUACACAAUUGUUUUACAAAUGAAAGAAGAUUAUUCCUAAGAUAUUUUUAAAUGGUGAAAUCUAGACGAGAAAAAAAAAAUAUUUCUCAUUUUUAUAGAUAAAUUUAGAAAAAGAUGAUAUUUUUCGUACAAAAACAUUUAUCAAGAAUUAUGGUAGUAGAAGAAAAAAGAAAUUGUCCACUAAACAUAGAUCUGUUGGUACGAAUAUUACAUAAUAUACAAAGUGGUCAAAAUUCAAAUCAAAAAUACCCCACUUAUACAAGGUUCAAAUUCCAAAAGCCCACUUAUACUUACGUUAGAUGAUUUCUAGCCACUACCAAAACUAAGUUAAAGGAAAAAAAAAUAAAAUAUUAAUUCAUGUGUUACAUUAUAUAUAUUUAAUUCAUGUGUUACAUUAUAUUUCUGUCAAAUGAGUAUCAUGACUAUCAAAAUUGUUACAACCAUUUUACCAUUUUCAACCUGGCCAACUGGAACCACUAUGCUAUGUAUGCAAUUUUUACACUUUAACAAUAGUAAAAAAAGAAGGGGAAGAGGUAGUGGCUAGAAAUGAAACAAAUCACUUCACCAUUUUGAUUUAAAUUGAACAUGUGAAUGCACAGUACAAGUGGUAAUUAGAAAACAUAACAGAUGAAACUGACAAUUCAAAAUUUAUUUCAUUUAUUUCAAAUAUAUUAUUCCAUUAAGAGUAACUACAUAACAUUGUCUCCAAAAAGAAAAAUUAAAAAUAAAACUCCAAAUAUUUUUGUCUCUAAGUAGCAACUGAAUUUACUAGGCAAUGACACCCAUUCUUUUUAUAAAGUAGACAAAAAGUCAUGUACCCAGUUAACAUGAACCACAACUACAACUUGUACUGCAACUUAUUCAUAGAUAAUUUUUAGAGGCUAGAAUUGAUUUUGAGAACCAAAAAAGUGACUUAUUCAUUGUGCUUCUUGUGGAGCUGAGGAUCAGUUUGAUAAAAGACAACAUCUCCAGUGUCACUUACAAAGUGAUCUUCAUUCAUACUUUGUAGUAAAUAUUUAAUUAGAUGAAAUGGAAGUGGUGAUGAUUUCUCUGGCUCACGGUAAUAGUCUCCAAAAAUUGGUUUUGCUGCUUUAGUCUGCAAAGGAAAAAGAUUGCAAUCAUUGUUUAAAACCACAUCGUAAGAAAUGACCAGUGACCCUGAGACGCUGGUUAAAGAACUAAAAAUAGGAUGAAGCGUGUUUAACGGUAAGUAAUUACCGCUUCAACCAAGUGAUAAUGAGGAAUUUGAGGGAAGAGAUGAUGAACAACAUGAGUGCCAAUGUCAUGAUGAAUGUUAUUAAUCCAACCAUAGUCACGAUCAACGGUUGUUAGUCCACCUCUUAGAUAGGUCCAUUCCUACCAAAAUGUACACGAGUAAUCAGACUCAACAAGAUUUGUGAUACAUAAUCACGUAAUUAUGAACAUAAAUAAUUGAUUGAUUGAAGGUACAUAAUUCAUUAUAUUUUUACCUGGCCACGGUACCAUGGUAAUUUUUGCGUAUAACCAUGGUGAUGCAAGUAUGUGACAAAAUCCAACCACAUGACAAAAAUCUGGAGUUGUACAAAAUAAGCAUAUAAUAAUCAAUUAAUGGACAUAAUAACAAUAAUUCAAUUAUAAUACAUUGUUUAGAUCAACGGUAAAUUUGGUAGAAGUAUGGUGAAACGUUCUAAAUUUAAUAAAAGAUUCAACAAAAUUAUGUUGUCCCCAUAACUUUUAAUAUGAAGCACAGCUACGACACUGACACAUCGAUACCAUAAAUAAUUUAUGAAAAUUACAUAAUUCACUGUAAUAACAAAUGUCAGUCUCGUAUCAGUGUCAGAAAAAUGUCUAACACCAGAACACGCCUAACUCGAGGAAUAUAAAAAAAAAAGGAUUUAAAAAUGAAUUUAACUUUACCCAAUAGGGAACUCCAUAGAGCUUGAGAAUUAAAAGUGGACUAGUUGUGAAGGACAAAUAAAGAAGCAAAGAAAACAUGAGAAGCCAACAAACUGUUGAAACUGUCACUUCUUUUCUCUCAUUGGGUGAGAACAAGUCGCUAUAGGGAUGAAAGUGUGACCCUGAUUUUCCAGGACUUCUACUCCACUGAAACAUUAACAUUUUCACAUUAGAAUAUGAAAAAAAAAAUUAGAUUCUACAAGUAUAUUAUCAUGAUAAGAACAAUAUUUGUAUUAUUUUAAAUAAUAAAAAAAAAACUCACCAAAUAAAUUGGAUAUGCAAACAAUGGUAAAGGCACUGAGAAUCUCACAAAUUUUGUCAUGUUGUCUAGACUGUUGUAAACCUUUUCUGUCAACUAAGAAAAUGACACAAAAUAUUAUGAACAAAACUCAUCAAAUGAAAGUUACUUCAUUUUUGCCCUUUGUUUGGGACUAAACCACCAAAACUAUGCAUAUAAUAUAAUAUAAUAACAUUAAUUAAGAACUUAGAAUAAAAUCAACAAAUCACAUACUGGAACCCAUGACUCAUCCCUUUCAACAUUUCCAUGGUUUUGAUGAUGUGUUUUGUGACUAAUUCUCCUGAAAAAUUCAUUAAAGCAAAAACUUGAAAUUUGUUAUAAUUCAAAGUAAAGUUAUUACCAUGAAACAACAAGGACAAAAAUGAUAUAAUGAACAAUAAAAAAACAAAAAUUCUAGAAACUAUUUCACUCACCAUCCAUGGUAUGGAACAAGAAUUGAGGAAUGCAAAAUAUGGCCCACAAAGUUAUUCACCAAAGAACUAUCUGAGAAGCUUCCAUGGCCACUAUUCCAAACAAAACAUCAAUGUUUACAUAAAAAAACAUAACAAAAACAAAAAACCAUAUGACAUAACAUUAACAUGAGUUAAACAAAAAACAUAAUUGAAAAAAAAAAAUUAUUUCUUACCAAUCAUGUCCAAGAACAAAAAUUGCCCAAAACAUUGUUCCUUGAAGAGGCCAAUAAAUUGGCCAAAAAUACCAGUUAUCAAACCUAAUUGCAGCUACAAUCAAUGCAGUAACAACCACCACAUCUCUAAGAACAUAACUUAGAGAUCUCCAUGUGUUCUUCACCCAACAAUGUUUUGGAAUAGCAGCUCUAAUAUCUGCUAUCUUAAAUGGUGGAGGAGCACUAGGGUCAAAUUCACUAUGGUUGUAAUUGUAGCCACCAUUGGUUACAACCAUUGUUUCUUGGCCUAGUGUUUCUCUUUUUUCAGAUAUGUGGUGAAUAGAGGUUGAUAUAGCCAUAAGAUGAAAUAUUUUUAACCUUUUGUAUGAGUAUACUACGACAGACACAUGGGGUCGUUUGUAUAUAUAAUAGAAAAAUGUUAGAGUGGUAAUAAUAGGUGCACAAGAUUUUAGUUUGACUUGUGUAAUUUUUUGUUUAUUUAUGUUGAUUUUCCUAAGAUCUAGGUGAUGUGGGAAAUGCUAAACUUGUGAAUUUAUGACGAUUUUGCAAAUUUCAAACCGUAUGAAGGUUGAAUAUUGAACCAUUGUAUCUCUUGAAAAACAUGUGCUAACAAAGAAGUGAAUUUAUGGUCGGUUAAUAUAUGGCAUAAUUAAAUUUUAUGUGCUAAUGUGAAUUUAGGGUCGGUUAUAUAUAUGGCAUAAGUUCAAUUUUGGAGGGUCAAGAAUCAUUUUAAUAGUUUUUUUUUUUGUUGAAAGAAUCAUUUUUUUAGUAUUGAUUUUAGGGUUAAUUAAGUUUUUAGUCCCUAUAAAUAUUCACAGUUUUGUUUUUAGUCCCUAUAAAAUAAAAUCACAUUUUUUAGUCCCUAUAAAAUUUUCCAGCAGCAUUUUUAGUCCCUAUAAAUUUUUCUAUCAGCACUUUCAGUCCCUGUCAAAAAUUUUUAUCAACAAUUUUGGUCUCUAAAAUGCUUAAGAAAAAUGUCACAAGAACUAAAAAGUGUGAUUUUAUUUUGUAGGAACUAAAAACAAAACUGUGAAUAUUUAUGGGGACUAAAAACUUAAUUAACCCUUGAUUUUAUCAUUGUAAAAAAAAAAAAAAUUUUAUCAUGUGCGGAUGAUUUAAAAGAUAUUACAAUUGCUUGGUGCUUAUAAUUAUAAUAACUUAACUGCAGUUAAUGUUGAUUUUAAUUUGGGUUUUAAUCUUGUGUUAUGGAUCAAGGCAAUUUCUCUCAAAGUUAACAUUUUUAUAUAAGUUUGUUGUUAAAUCGAAUUUCUGCAAAGGACAAUUUAUUUAGAAGGCAUAUCUUACCUAAUAAUGAUAUUUUUUGCUCGGUUGCUUGUAGUUGUGCGGAAGUCAGAGACCACUUGUUCUUCCCGUGUGAUGUUUAUGGUCGUCUUUGAAAUCUUAAUUAUGAUUGGUUAAGUUUUUACUUUGCUCCUCCUAAAAAUUUACUUGAUCAUCUUCUUCAAUUUGAGAGUUAGGGGGUUUCUCUAAAAAGUUUUAUGUGGCUUUCAACAUUAUUUGAACCUUUGCCAUUUAUGUCAUUUGGGAUUGGAAUGAACUAAACAAAAUAAUCUUUAAUCGUAAGGUGUGGCUUUCAACAUUAUUUGAACCUUUGUCAUUUAUGUCAUUUGAAAUUGGAAGGAACGAAACAAAAGGAUCUUUAAUUGUAAGGCUGAAAUUCUUACUUCUUUAACUUAAAAAAAUUAAGAUUCAGACAUAUUGGUGGUUAAAAUCUUUUUAUGAUUUGUUUUAUUUUGAUUAGAUAACUUGGAGGUUAAAUCCUUUGAUGUGUAUAAAGGUGCUCUUCUAAUUAACUUGUGUUUGUACCCUUUUUCAAUUGUAAUUCCCUGGACAUGUAGUUUCUCUAGUACGUACACCUUGUGUCGGAAGGACUAUUUUUGAUUGUUUAAUAUAUAUUUUCUUAGCCUUUACGGAAAAAAAAAGACAAAAUUUUCGUAAUAAAAUAAUGGACUUAGUAAGGACAAAAAAAAAAAAACUUUUUAUUGAGAUGUCAUUUGAUAUAGUGACUUAAUUAAUAUAUUUUUAUUGCGAACUGAAUAGUUAUUAUAUCAAAAUAGGGAUAUCAUAUAAAAGGUACCAGUUGUCUUGGUUCCAAUAUUAAGAAAUUUUUUUGAGAAAAUUAUUAUUUUUUGCUACAAAAGUAUUAUACAUUUAAUUAUUUUUUGCUACCAAAGUAGUAUACAUUUAAAUUGUCGAAUUAAAAGUAGUAUAUAUUUAAUGUAGAUUGUAACUAGAAAAGGAUUUAUUUUAUUUCAAAAAAUGCUUAUAAUUGUAUUUGCAUACACUGAUACAUUCUUUAGUAUAUCUAAUUUUUAAUUAUCAUUAUUAUUACUACUAUUUUUGAAAACUUAAUUUGAUUGGCUUUUAGUAAAAAAAAAUGUAUUUUGACACAAAUAAUAAUAAUUAUAUACAUAUCGUUCUUCUCUCAAAAAAAAAAAAAUAUAUAUAUAUAUAUAAAUGUUGUUCUUUUUUUUAUUAAAGGGAAAUAGAAAGACAAGAGAUAAGAAAAUUAGUUAACUCAUUGCCUCAAAUUAGUUGUUGGGUAUAGGUUGUUGAUGAGAAUUCGUGAAUUGGGUGAUAAUAAAUGUGUUGUUGUGGUUAAGUUGUUGUGUUUUAUGACUUUUGUGAAAAUGGGUUAAAAAUGGAGAAGUUUGAUUUUGAUGAGUUUGAGUGAGUUAGUAGAGUUGUCGUGAUGAAUUGAAUUGAGGAGAAUUUCUGUUUUCAAUCAAUGUAUUUUAGUGAGGAAUCGUUUGGGAGAAAAUCGAAUUUUUGUGUCAAAAAUUGUUUUAAGCACUUUUGAAAAAUAAGUCAUUUUUAGCUUAUUUGAAUUAAGUUGUUUUGAGUUACAAAACCAUGUUUUCAAGUAUAGUUUGAGUGGUCUAAGUGUUUGGGACACGUUGGCGAAAACGGAUCAAAAAUCGGGUUUUACGCGCGAAAAAUGAAAAAUCAAAAAAAUUGCACCAGAUAAGGUGGCAUGACCAUGCGCCCUGUGGCACAUCCGUGCCAACCCCUUUGUGUCCGGAAACCCCGAUUUUCGUGUUUUUGAGUACUUUUAAGUAUAUCAAUGGUUCCCAAACACCAAAACCUAUUUAAAUGGUAUGUAAUUGGACUUCUAAGAGUGGUUUAUCAUAGCUCCAAGUUAGGAAUGAAUUGGUUUGAAAAAUGAGGUAAAAAUGAGACGAACUUUGAGAAUUAUGCGAAAUAAAUGAACUUUGUGAAACCAAAAUGAUAUGAUUGAUUACACUAUGUGUUAUAUGAUAUGUAUGGAUGUUUUGAUGAUACGUAAGAACGAGGGAACCUAUUUUUGUUGAGGGAAAUUGGAAAUAGACGAUUUUAUGAAAAUAGACGAACUUCGUCAAAAUGGGGUUUUAUGAUCAGAUAACUUGCAAAUUACUUUGUGAACAUGAUAACCAGAUGAAAUAAGAGUGAGCCAAUGUUUGUGGAUGUUAAAUAGGUGGGUUAUCAUUAUGUGGUCGAUGGUACGUCUUUUGUGUGAUUAUACUAUAUGAAACAAUGUUGUUUCUUUGUGAUGAUGAUUACUUGACAGUUGUUUAUUAUUGUUAAAUAUGAAUAUGCAGAGAUGAAUGCUUGAUGAUGAAAGUGUAGAGAUGAUUUAUUAUUUGAUAAAUGCUUGAUGUGUGGAUGUAUUGUUUGAUAAUUCAAUAUGUGGAGAUAUGCGGAGAAUAUGUAGAGUAAAUUGGUGCUGUGUAUUAUCGAGUCAAUACUUGGCAUCCAUGCAUUCAUAAGUCUUAUAUGUGGAGAUACGUAGAGAUAUGCAUAGAUAUGUAGAGGGAUCAAUCGGUAAAACCUACCUUCGACAUCCAAUGGUAUCACAUGCAUGUAGAGUCGAGUCUAGAACAUCGCAUGCAUAUAAAAUGUGUGAAAUGUGCCAUAUUUAAUUACUUGACUUGGUGAAUUAUGUGGGCUAUGUGAUUGAUGAAUGUUGAUAUAUAUGGAGUUGUGGACUUGUAUAUUUUGUAUUGAUAUGCUUGAGAAAUAUUGUCGAUGCGAUAAUUCAUUUGGAAUCUCGAUUAAUAUUUAUUUGAUUAUGUUUAUUAUGUGGAAUAUAAUAUAACCUCAGUGGUCGUUUGGUUGACCGUCUGCCUAUUUGUACGAAUGUUAUUGAUCCAUAUAAAUAUAUAAAAUUUUUGUUUUAGUUUCUUUUAAAAAAAAUCUUCAACUUAGUCCUCCAAAUUUUUCGCAUCAACCCUUUUGGUCCCUCUUUUUAUUUUUGAAUAUUCCUGAUCCUUCUUUUAAGUCAACUCAUAUGUAGACAUCAUAUUUUUGAAUGAAACUUGACAAGAAUAUUAUAAUAAUGUCUCCCAAAAAAUAGAUUUAUUUUAGCAAAACAUGAAUAUUUAUGUUUUUUACACUUAAAUAUUUAUGUUUUGUUAAAAAGUUCUAUUUUUUUAAAGAGCUUAUUAUAAUAUUUUACACAUUUUUGAACAAUUUCGUUCAAAAAUAAAAAAGGUAACACAUGAGUUUAUUUAAAAGUAAAAACAAAAAGCGGUGAUCUUGACAAAAAAAAAAAAAAGCAGUGAUGAAGUUUUUUUGAAGACUAAAAGUCAAAUUUUUCUGGAGAAAUUAAUUAAAACGAAAAAUUAAUAUAUUUACAACAACCAAAACCAUAUUUAACCUUUUGUUAUAAUGACUCACUCUUUGAUGGAAGCAGAGAGCAAUGUUAUCCAUGACUCUUUGGCGCAACCAUAUUUAUGAUAAAUUAAUAAUGAAUGUUUUUGUAGUUGAAUUGGUAAUGAAAUACCGCAUAUUCUCUUUGAUUUAGGUUCAACUUUUGACUCUAACAAAACAUAAAUUUUAUUUAUCUAUAUGUAACUUUUUUAUUGUAUUUUUUUUACAGGAACUUUUUUACUGUAAAAAGGCUUACUAUAGAAGUUGUUUAAGGCCUCUAAUAUUGUUUGACUUGGGCAGGCAAAUGCAUAAGGAAGUGCAUAAGCAAAGUAGUGCACGUAAUUCUUAUGAGUAAAGGCAUAAGGAAGUGCAUGCAUGAGCAAAGUGGUAUACACGUAACCCUUAUAUAUCAUGAGCAAACACAUAUAAGGCAUGUUCUUGGAUGUUCUUGGCAUGAUGGAUUGGGUUUUGCCAAGUAAAGUGGUGAUGGAGUGCAUUUUUUAUUCACGUUUUUUCAAUGGAAUGGAUGAUGUGCAUUCUCUCUUACACGUAAUUUCAAUAGAGUGAUACUUUUAGGAUAAUUUUGAUGUAUUUUGUUGCCACAAUUUUGAGUAAUGCUUGAGUUAUUAUUCCUUAGAAUAAUUUUUCAAAGCACUCUAAAAGGAGAUCAUCUUGCUAUUAAAACAUAGGAAAAUGAACAUAUGACUAUGAUAGAAGCGUGAAAAAUCACUUUUAUGGAAAGGUUGGUCGUCUUAUGAAACUUAACGAUUUGUGUGCUAAGUUGGUUGCGUUAUGGAAGCUUUUGAAAGAAAAAAAAAAUGAGGAAAUGUUUCUUGAGUAUUGCUGUUGACACAUUUGAUUUGACUGAGAAACACGAGUAAAUUACUCAAAUGCCCUUCGGCAGUUAACUGCCGAAAUUUUAAAGAACCGGCUGCAGUUAACUGUCGAGGAAAACUUCGGCAGUUAACUGCCGAGGAAUUUCAAACCUGAAAUUAAAUAAGGAAAUAUACCAAAAUUUUCUUUAAUUAAAUUUAAUUCUUUAAUCCUUUUAAGGAAUUAAACAUAAUUAUUUUUAUGAUUUCAUUCAUAUGAUUUUGUUGUCAUAAAUGAAAAAAUAUGAGAGAUGAAUAAUAUCAGCAAUCGGUAGUUAAUGGAUCUAAAAUGAUGAUUCAAUAAAAAAAAAUGCAACAACAAAAAACAUUAUAAAUGAUAGAAUAAUUAUAUUUGUAAUUAAUUUCAUUGAUGUCUGUCAUUAUUCAUAGGUUUGACUAACCUAUUAUUACCCCAAUUUUUUUUUUUUUGAAAGACCCCCAAAUUUUGUUUUAAUUGUUGGACUUCAAACCUCACAUUUUUUAAAUUAAACGUUAACUUCAAAUUCAUUUAGCAAUUUCCAUCCUUAAAAAUUACCUCACGUCACAUUUUAUUUUAUUUUUUAAUAAUGUAAUAAAUCUGGUAUUUUAAUUUAUUAAAUAAAAACAUAAUUAAAAUUUUACAAAUAAAAUGAUUUACAAAAACCCAAAUCAAUACCAGUCAAAAAGAACGAGAAUAAUUUUCAUUUAUGUCAAAUUACAUUUUUGAUCUAUUAACUAUUUAUUUAAGUAAUAUUGUUUUAGUCCCUUAAUUAAAAUUUAAUUUAGCCUUUCAUUUAUCACUACAUGCUUCAUUCAGAAUUUUCAUUACCAGUCACCAUCCCCUUAUCAACAACACAAUCCUUAUCUCAAACCUUCAUUGCAAAACCCAAAACCCACAUACAAGUGAUAAAGUAGAAGAAGAAAAAAAAUGGAAAAAAUUCAUAUUUUCAUACCCAAUAAAUCAAUAACUCCAUUAUCAUUCCCCAAUAAACCCACCAAAUUUGAUUGCAUUUCUUCAAAAAGGGUCAAUGCAAAUUCCAACAAUGUCUCAACAACCAAACCUUCAAUUCGAAAAUUAAUUGAUUCCCAAUUGAACCAAUUAUGCAUUAAUGGCUCCCUUAGUGAAGCUGUGACAAUUCUUGAUUCCCUUGCUGAGCAAGGGUGUAGGGUGAAACCCAUUACUUAUAUGAAUUUGUUACAGUCAUGCAUUGAUAAAGAUUGUAUUUUUAUUGGUAAGGAAUUGCAUUCUAGAAUUGGGUUGGUUGAAAAUGUGAACCCUUUUGUGGAGACUAAGUUGGUUAGUAUGUAUGCGAAAUGUGGGUUGUUGGGUAUGGCGCGGAAGGUGUUUAAUGAAAUGUCUGUGAGGAAUUUGUUUACUUGGUCUGCUAUGAUUGGUGGUUGUUCGAGGAAUAAGAGUUGGGGGGAGGUUGUGGGUUUGUUUUAUGCAAUGAUGAGGGAUGGUGUUUUGCCGGAUGAGUUUUUGCUUCCGAAGGUUUUGCAGGCGUGUGGGAAGUGUAGGGAUUUGGAGACUGGGAGGUUGAUACAUUCGAUGGUGAUUAGACGUGGAAUGCGGUGGUCGAAGCAUUUGCGUAAUUCGAUUAUGGCUGUGUAUGCUAAGUGUGGGGAGAUGGAUUGUGCGAAGAAGAUUUUUGAUUGUAUGGAUGAGAGGGAUAGUGUUGCGUGGAAUGCGAUGAUAUCUGGGUUUUGUCAGAAUGGUGAGAUUGGACAAGCUCAGAAGUAUUUUGAUGCUAUGCAGAAAGAUGGAGUUGAACCUAGUUUGGUAACUUGGAAUAUUUUGAUUUCUUGUUAUAAUCAGUUAGGGCAUUGUGAUCUUGCAAUUGAUUUAAUGAGAAAGAUGGAGUGGUUUGGUAUUGCUCCAGAUGUAUAUACUUGGACUUCGAUGAUUUCUGGAUUUACUCAAAAGGGUAGGAUAAGUCAUGCUUUAGAUUUGUUGAAAGAGAUGUUUUUAGCUGGUGUUGAGGCCAAUAACAUUACAAUUGCAAGUGCUGCCUCAGCAUGUGCAGCCUUAAAAUCAUUGAGUAUGGGAUUAGAAAUACAUUCUAUUGCUGUUAAGAUGAAUUUGGUCGACAAUGUAUUAGUUGGUAAUUCACUGAUUGACAUGUAUUGCAAGUGUGGUGAUCUUAAAGCUGCUCAACACAUUUUUGAUAUGAUGUCAGAGAGAGAUGUAUAUUCUUGGAACUCAAUUAUUGGAGGGUAUUUCCAAGCUGGUUUCUGUGGCAAAGCUCAUGAAUUAUUUAUGAAAAUGCAGGAGUCUGAUUCACCACCCAAUAUUAUUACAUGGAAUAUAAUGAUCACAGGAUAUAUGCAGAGUGGUGCCGAGGAUCAGGCGUUGGAUCUUUUUAAAAGCAUUGAGAAAGAUGGGAAAACUAAGCGAAAUGCAGCUUCUUGGAAUUCUCUGAUAUCUGGUUUCGUACAAAGUGGACAAAAGGACAAGGCUUUACAGAUAUUCCGGAACAUGCAGUUUUGCCACAUACUUCCCAACUCGGUCACAAUACUAAGUAUCCUUCCGGUCUGUGCAAAUUUAGUGGCUAGCAAGAAAGUGAAAGAAAUCCAUUGUUUUGCAGUCCGUAGAAUUUUAGUGUCUGAACUUUCCGUAUCAAAUUUAUUAAUCGAUAGUUAUGCCAAGUCAGGAAAUUUAAUGUACUCGAAAAAUAUUUUUAAUGAAUUGUCAUGGAAAGAUGCUGUCAGUUGGAACUCUAUGCUUUCAAGUUAUGUUUUACAUGGCUGUUCAGAGUCUGCACUUGAUCUUUUUUAUCAAAUGAGGAAGCAAGGGCUUCAACCAAAUAGAGGUACUUUCGCAAGUAUUCUCUUAGCUUAUGGUCAUGCUGGAAUGGUGGAUGAGGGGAAGAGCGUUUUCUCCUGCAUAACUAAAGAUUACCUGGUUAGGCAAGGUAUGGAACAUUAUUCUGCUAUGGUCUAUUUGCUCGGUCGUUCAGGUAAGCUUGCUGAAGCACUCGACUUCAUUCAAAGUAUGCCCAUCGAACCUAAUUCCUCUGUAUGGGGUGCCUUGCUGACCGCCUGCAGAAUUCAUAGAAAUUUCGGAGUGGCAGUCCUUGCAGGAAAGCGUAUGCUUGAGUUUGAACCUGGAAAUAAUAUAACUCGACAUUUACUUUCACAGGCAUAUUCUUUAUGUGGGAAGUUUGAGCCGGAGGGAGAAAAGGCUGUCAAUAAACCUAUUGGUCAAUCCUGGAUUGAAAGGAAUAAUGUUGUUCAUACUUUUGUAGUUGGUGACCAAUCAAACCCGUAUUUGGAUAAGCUACAUUCUUGGCUAAAAAGGGUAGCUGUAAAUGUCAAGACACAUGUUUCUGACAAUGAACUUUACAUUGAGGAAGAGGAGAAGGAAAACACUAGUAGUGUACAUAGUGAAAAACUUGCAUUUGCUUUUGCUCUGAUAGAUCCUCACAACAAACCUCAAAUUUUACGGAUAGUAAAAAAAUUGAGAAUGUGUAGAGAUUGCCAUGACACAGCCAAGUACAUAUCAAUGGCAUAUGGGUGUGAAAUAUAUUUAAGUGAUUCAAAUUGCUUACACCAUUUCAAAGGUGGCCAUUGUUCUUGUAGGGACUAUUGGUAGAGCAAAUGUUGUGUGAGAGAAUCAAUGAUGUCAGAAAUAUGUAAAUCUGUCUUGAUGUAUAGUUGUUCAUGACGUACACAAACCUUUUGAAGAAUUGAUAGUUUAUAAUAUUAACCUUUCACGCAACUGAAAUUUUUGGCUUCCCUUUUUCACAUAAUGUAUCAGGUUAAACUGUAUAGAAUUUCAUUUGAUUAUUAUUCCAGGAUUUUGAAAUGCUUUUCAGGUGAAAAGAUUUGCAUGUAUGUCCUGUUAGCAAUUUCCAUCAAGAAGAUAUAUUAAAAAAAUUAAUGAAAUCAAUCAUUGUAAUAAUUUCAAAGAUGAUUAUAGAAUAAUGAUGGGAAAUAUAGUGGAGCUAUAAAAUAUUGGUAGAAUCAAAACUGUCCCACGAAUAAGCAUCCAUGAAUCAAAAGUGUCAGCCACCUUAUAAAAGCUGCACUAGGCAGUGAGUGCAUGCAGAAGCAAAAGAGUGAGGGCUCUUGGCUAAAUUCUUCUAAAAUAUUUGUUCCUUUUCUCCAGUCAUUUAUUUCUUUUACUAAAAUUGAGGGAAUAGCCCGUGGAAAGGAAAUGUUAGCUCCUUGACCAUAAAAAGUGCACGAAACUUUCUUAAUAAAAGAAAAAAACUGAUUUCUGUUUGGAAUCUGAUUCUCUGACUUUCAAUUCUUUCCCUCCAUGGUGGAACCAGAAUUAGCUUCUUCUAACAGUUUCUUAUCAUUAUUAUUUUCUAUAAAAAGCUCCUUGCCACAAACCAACUUUCUGCUUCCAUAAAUUCCUCUUAAGCCUUCCCCUGCUACAUCAUUAUUAGCACUUGCAACUGCAUUUUUCUUUCUAAGGUCUAUCAUUCUCUUCCUACAAGCAGAGGAUGGUAGUGCACUCUUACAAUAUCUUAUGACACAUUGCAUACAUAACCUUAUAGGUGAUGUUCAUUAACUAUCUUUUCACUUUUUAACACCUUUGCAUGAUGUUUUGCAUGCAGAGUUCUGUGGAUUCCAUAAAGAAACCUGCAUCUGUUGGGCCAUGGGGCGGCAAUGGAGGGUCCCGUUGGGAUGAUGGAAUAUACUCUGGAGUAAGGCAGUUGGUGGUAGUUCACGGAACUGGAAUUGACUCCAUCCAGAUUGAAUAUGAUAAGAAAGGAAGCUCUAUUUGGUCAGAGAAACAUGGUGGAACUGGAGGAAAUAAAACUGACAAGGUAAAGUUUUCAUCUUGUACUAAGCUGAUCCUAUGACAUAAAUUUUUAACAUUAGCACCAAAGAGUCCGUGAAGGUUUCAGUUAAAUUAUGAGCAUAUAUUAACUAACCACUUUUGACUGUGUUGUAGGUUAAACUUGAUUAUCCAGAUGAGUUCUUAACUUCAGUUCACGGAUACUAUGGUAGCUUGAACCAAUGGGGCCACAACUUGGUUCGGUCACUGAGUUUUGAGAGUAACAAGAAAACUUAUGGACCAUUUGGUGUCGAGCAAGGCACAUAUUUUUCAGUACCAAUGACUGGGGCCAAGAUUGUUGGGUUCCAUGGCAGGUGUGGUUGGUACCUAGAUGCCAUUGGAGUAUAUAUGAAGUCCUUGAAGCAACCAAAUCCAGCGAAAGCCUUGCAUCAUUCUGAUCACGUUAAUAACACUAGUGAGAAUUUUGGCUAUUCAGUGAUACAAGGAACUGUGAACCAGAAUUAUGAUAUUGUUCUUGCCGUAAGACAGAAAGAUCAUAAAGAUGAUUUCGGUAAGCCUAUACCAAACAAGAUGCCAGGGAAGAUUUCUACUAUCAAAGAAUCUAAAAACAUUGAACACAAAGAAAAGGUAAAGAUAUCCUGCAACUUUAGUGGAUGAUCUCUGUCUUUGAAGUGCUCCUGAAGUUUUUAUUUAAAUGUAAAAAAUCUUGCUUUUACACAAAAUGGAUCUUAAAAUCUAUUUAUGUUGCAGAUAACUCAUUCAGAAAUUCCACCCGCAAAGGUUGGUGGUGUAGUUACAUGCGGUCCUUGGGGUGGCGUUGGCGGAUAUGCAUUUGACGAUGGGACCUAUAAAGGAAUCAGGCAAAUCAAUUUAUCGCGCAAUGUUGGAAUUGUAUGGAUUAGAGUUAUGUAUGAUCAUGAUGGGGAUGCCAUAUGGGGAUGCAAACAAGGUGGGACAGGAGGAUAUAAAAGUGAUAAGGUAAAUCAAGAGCAUACAACCAAACUUCGCUUAUUUUACUUAAUAAUCUAAAACAAUCACAUUGAAUUUUAGCAUUUUUUGCAUCACUUUGCAGAUAGUCUUUGAUUUCCCAUAUGAAGUCUUGACAUAUAUAUCGGGAUACCAUGGACCUUUGAUGUACAUGGGACCUGCUGUUAUAAGAUCACUAACUUUCCACACCACAAAAAGGAAGUAUGGACCAUUUGGGGAAGAACAAGGAACUUAUUUCACCACAAAGGUGAAAGAAGGUAAAAUCGUCGGCAUUCAUGGGAGAAAAGGUUUGUUUCUCGAUGCUUUUGGUGUACAUGUGCUUGAAGGAAAAGUGGUUGUGCCGGUGGCAAUGCCUCCGAAGGAAAUCAUCCCUAGAGAAACAAAUAUUGGUGAAAUAGGCGGUACUCAAUGGCCUAACAAACUGGUGCUUGCUAAGCCAACAGCAGCUGAAGAGGUAUUUCUUUUCAUAAUAAACUUUUCGAAGAUAUAUUGAAGACAUUCAAGAAUUUGGUUAUCUUUAUGUUUGAGUUGUCCUUUUCACUUUAGUUCCCUCUUUCCCAGGUUUCUUGUGGUGUGGUCAAAGAACCAGCUCCAUGUGGCCCAGGCCCUUGGGGUGGGGAUGGAGGUAGACCUUGGGAUGAUGGAGUCUUUUCUGCGAUUAAGCAGAUUUAUUUGACAAAAGUAUCAGAUGGCAUCUGCUCUAUCCAAAUUGAGUAUGAUCGAAACAGGCAAUCUGUGUGGUCUAUAAAACACGGCGGUAAUGGAGGAGACACCAUGCAUAGGGUAUGAUUGUUGGUUUCCACUUCCUUUAAGCACAUUUUACUGUUUCACUCUUGGUUCAUUAUUUAUCCAUUGUCAUCGAAUUAGUUAAAUUAUAAAUAGAAUUUAUCUGAAAUUUGAUGUGCUUGAUCAUAAUAUGACGAUAUUCAACGGUUGGAUUGGUAAGUUCAAUGUCUAAACUGAUUUAUUAAGCAGAGUAACAAGAGUUACUCCUAGAGUAAGUUGAUUCCCACCCAAAGUACAUAUAGACAUAUAUGUAUUUAUACAUGCAUGCAUACAUUGAUAAAAAAAAUUCAAGCAUGCAUACAUUGAUAAAAAAAAUUCAAGCAUGCAUACGUAGAUAUGUAUGUAUGAAAUAAUAAGCUAAUAUGUAUGUAAUAUGUGUAUGUACUAAUACAAAAUGUAUUUCUUAUACUUACUCGUGCUAAUUAUGAUGUUAGAUACAACUGGAGUUUCCACAUGAGGUAUUGACUUGUAUAUCUGGCUAUUAUGGGUCAAUCACAAAGGAUGAGAAGCAUACAGUCAUAAAAUCACUGACAUUCCACACCAGCCGCGGUCAGUAUGGUCCAUAUGGUGAGGAAGUAGGGAAAUUCUUCACCUCAACCACUACAGAGGGAAAGGUGGUGGGUUUCCAUGGGAGGAGUAGCUUGUACUUGGAUGCUAUUGGGAUCCACAUGCAACACUGGCUUGGAAGUCAGAAAACUUCAAGGUCCUCCCUUUUCAAGCUAUUUUGAGUUUCUGAUCCGCAGUGCUUGAACAAAACAUCAGUUUGGCAUUUGGAGAAGUGUUGCAAGGAGUUUCAAAUUUUAGUGUAAUCUGAAUAAGCAGAAUGUAAUCAGGUGAGAGCAUGAUUACCUGUAUACUCUGAAUAAUUGUUUGGUGGGGUUUUCUGAUCAACAUAAUAAUUUUCUUUACGAGAAUGAAUAAUGUAAUUUGUUUGUUGAUUUCUUACACUUCAAGGUAUGAUUUAAGAUUUCAAUUUUUGCAGUUCUUCUGAUAUAAAUACCUCCACCCUCUCUUUCUCUAUAGCUAACAAGUAUGACAACAAAGGAUAAAAUAAAGUCAAACUAUUUUUUUUUUGUUGACAAAAAGUCAAACUAAAUAGUCUCACAAAUAUUUAUGCCAUUAAUUAAACUCAAAUAAGGCAAUUCAAACCAGGCUUGGGUGGACUAAAAGCUUGUUCUCAAACACAUACUGAAUGCGGUGGAACUAAAUACCCACGGAACAAAUAGUAUACCAACUAUAUAUAAUGUGUCUUGUGUCAUCAGCAAAUGGCUACUUACUACAGUUGCAAAGACCCAAUUCUGCGCGCCAUUAACAAGAUUUUACAUUGGUUGUCCACCCUCUAAACAAAUCUAGGAUGGUAAUUAAUUAAGUAAAAAGAACAAUAUAUAUAUUUUUUUUUUAAGAAGGUAAAGUACUCCACCAAAAUUGACACCUGGAAGAAUCGAAUUGAGAUCUUGAGAAGAGCAUACUCCAAAGUCGUACAAGUGGAAUAAUAAUACAAUUGUUUUAAGGUAAAAACUAUAUAUACAAAGUGAUUAGUAGUCAACACAGAAAUUAACAAACUAAUAGUUUUAUCAACAGAAAGAAAAAAGACAAACUAAUCAACAACUUAUCUUCUACUUGUUGCAUUUACUAAUAACUCAAUGUUCUACUUUCACAAUAACAAACUUCAUUAACUUGCAUGUAUAGAAAUUGCAAUAUGAGUGGUAAAUCUUUAUAUCCAAAAUUGGAGUGAGGCAGGGAGAACUAAAAAAAAUGUUAACAAGAAACAGUGCUAAUUGAAUUAGACCACAAAUAUGAGCUAAGCAGAUUUCCUCAACAUCAAGGGAGGUGAAACAGACUUCAUUCCAUGUUUUUGAACUGUUUGCUUUGGUAGCACCAGCAGAAGCACCUUGGAAUUGUUCAAACUUCACAAUAAAAUCACUGCUAACUUAGCCCUGUCAGAAAUAAAAGCAUAUACAAAUUUUGCAGCAUGACAGAAUUCUUAAUCGUACAAGCCGUCUCCAUUCCAACCUAUUUAUGUAAUCCAUUACCCUUGAAGGAUCUUCCUUCAAUGCAGUAAGAAUCAGCCAACUUAGCAGAUUGAAGUUUCAAACUAAAAGCAGAAUUAUGUAGCAAUAUCUUUUGGAGAAGCUCAAUCAACUCAUAGGAAAGAUCAGCAAUCAUAAGAACUUUCAGGAAAAGGAGUGGACAUAUAACUAGAUCAAUCAAAUGCCUCCUAAACUCAUAGUUGGGAUUUAGGACCUUCUCACAGAUAUCAGCAGCAUCCAUACGUCCAACAAUUUAUCUGAUACAAACAUAACGAAAUAACAUGAGUGUCCUAGAUUAGCAUUAUAAAAUACAAUGACACCUUCCUAAUUAAGAGUUGUAUACACACCUGGUUUGUAGCUUGAGCAACGGAUUUUUAUUGGUAACGUGCUCAGCAUCACAAUGCACCAUUUGGUAAGCAACAAUGGCAAAUGUAGGGCCCCAUUUCUCACAAUAUUUACCAACAAUACGAGAAUCAUAAUAUUGGUUGGUUAUGAGUAAAUGGUUAAGAUUGACAUCGAUGUCAAUCAUAAUUUUACCCACAUCAUUACAGACAUGUACAUCUUGGCUUUGCUCACUCAAAAGAAGUUCCAACAACUGUGAAUGCAUAGAAAUUGAAAUGAGAAAAUAGUAGUGUGAUAAGCAUAUGCAAGGAAGAGAGAAUGAACUGAAAGUAUAAGACCUUUAAGAACACAUGCAUCUGUGCAUCUGGAAGAUUAGCCUUCAUUAUAAAGUUCUUUGUCUUCUCGAUAAAAUUUUGAUUCCCAGUAUUAGCAGUUGCUUCAAUGUAUUUGAAGUGAAUAUCAGGAUCCUCACUAAAGAAUACAAAAUCAAAAGGCAAAAUUAUAAAAACGAAAAACAACUGCAAAUGCAAUAUAGGCCUAGAGUUUAAAUAUGCACCCAAACAAAGUGUAGUCCCUUAUAGGACCUGAAUUCUUCAAAGAGUUUCAUGAAUGCAUCAACACCCAAUUGCUCAGUAAUAUUUUUAGAAGUAUGCAAAUUAUGUACCAGUAAAAUUCUUUGAUGAAAUCCCAAAAAAAAAAAAUUAAUUGAGAAACAAAAGUUUUAUAGAAACAACAUACAAGCUCUAGAACAUUAUCUGAACAAUUAUUUGAAUAUUGUCCCUAAGAGGUUGCAAAGAACUCAACAAAAUCCUAAAAAUCACUCCAUGAUGAGAAUAUAUAACAAUUUUUUUUAUGAAAACCAGUCAAUUGAGCACUUGAAACUAGACAAGCCAUUAUAACGUUGUACAAAAGACAUACAAGAAGCUUGAAAGGAAUUGUUCGAAUAAAGAAUCAAAGAACCUGAAGAGCCUUUUCACAAAGUUAAGCAAACAAAAAGAGAUAUUCAUAAAAUGUUCGCCUAUUUUGAUUUUUACUUUGAUGAGAGUAAAUGUUCACUUAUUAAAUAGAUAAGAAGUAAGAAAAUGAAAUAAAAUAAAAUCAUCGAAACUUACCUAUGGAAGACAAAAGAGAAACUAACACGACAGCUAUAAAAUAGUGAAAAGAACGAGUGGCAUAUCCUGCAAACACAUUACAAUAGAUUGUUAAUGUAAUAUGAGAAACAUAAUCAAAAGGAUGGCGGGAGAAUAAAGAGCCUACCAGUUUAAGUGGAGAUGUGACAAACCGUUAGGAGCAACAAACAAAGGGAACUUCAAUGUUGAUGGAAGCAGAUAAGAGUAAACAAGCUAAAUCAAUGCUCUUCAAAUGCCUAUACUUAAUUUUCAGAAACAAAAGAUGGAUACUUCCCGAAUAUGUGCUAUCUUGUCCCAGUUCUCCCCUGUUCCCUCCUUGCAUCGUUCCUUCAAUAUUGGGCAACCGAAAAUUGUCAGCAAAUCAAGUGAAGUGAGGUGUCUAAUACCUUCUAGCAAGCAUUUUAAUCUUUCACAACCACCAAUUGUUAUUUUUCGUAGGGAUUGUAGACCUCCCCAAAUUUCCUCUGGUAAAGGCUCAAGCUCGCUGCAACAAGAGAUAUUUAGAUGCUCCAAAGCUAGACUGAAGGGUUCAUUUGGUAACUCUUUCAAUUUUCGGAAACCACUUACUCUCAAAUAUUCAAGACAAGUAAGGUUUCUAAACAUCCCCUUUGGGAAGGAGGUUAUUCCUUCACUUCUCUCAAGGUCAAGGGAAGUAAGACCAUAGAAGCUAGAGAUCGACCUCAGUAACUCAUUGUUACAUUCAUUUACAUAAAGGUUUUUAACAUAUGGAAGACAUGACAGUUGAAGUUUAGGGUAAAAGGCGAUAUCCAAUUGAAAAAGACAAGGAAACAUCUCCUCUCUUUCCACUUUCAAGUUUCAACAACCCCUCUAAGUUUGGUAAAUCAUUUAAUACCUCCAAAUAUGGGAAAAUCCUCACCUCCAUACCAUUGUGAGAUUCAUCAUCACCAUCAUCGUUCCAAAAUCCUCACCUCCAUACCAGAGCUCAACAACAUCACCGAUUCUGGCUGUUGAUAUAUUAUCUGAUUGAAAUGCCGACUAAAUAUUUUAUACAAGAAAGGGCAAUCACCUGUAUAUUUUCAAGAAUAACUAUAUUUAAAAUGAAACCAACCAAUUGAUGUAAAAUUAUUAUCGGAAUUGAAGAUCUAUACCAUAUCUAUUCCAGCAUCCAUGAGAGUGGAGACGCGAGAAUGAUAAUCUGACGCAUAAGGUUGGCAUAAUAAUCGAUUUUGUCCCAGUCAAAAAUCAUAAGGUUCACAUAAAUCAAUGCUCUUAAAAAAUGUAUUCUUCUUCAUUCCAGUAAACAAAUUUUGGAAUGUCUGUUAUCUUGUCCCAUUCCUCUCUUGUUCUCUUCUAACACUGACCCUUUCAUUUUGGGUAACCAGGAAUAUUCAAAAACUCAAGUGAGGCGUCUAAUACCUUCCGGCAAGGAUCUUAAUUCCUCAUACUCAACAAUAUCCAUAGUUCGAAGAGAAAAAUAAAUGGCACCUGUUCAGUUCCACAGGAAAAGGCUCUCUGUUAGUGAAAUGGCUAAUGCUAAUCUGCUAUAAUAUAUGGAGUUAAAAGAUGCCAAAUUCACUUUGUUAUCAAAUAAAACUGUUGAUUUCUCAUUCGUAUCCUCCGAAGUCAUUCGUUUCCUCUUGCUUUCAGAAAAAGCAGUGGACAUAACUUGAUCAAUUAACAUUGUUUGACACAAAAAUAGUCGGGAUUCAGCAGCAUUCCGGACGUUCCACAACAUAUCUGACACAAACAUAAUAAAAUAACAUGAGCGACUCGACUAGAAUCAUGAAAUAAAACUACACAUUCCUAAUGAAGAGCUGUAUACACACCUGACUUGUAGCUUGAACUAAGAAUUUUUAUUUUUAUUGGUAACACAUGCUCAGCAUCACAUUGCAAAAUUUGGUAAGCAACAAUGACAAUGGCCCCAGUUCUCCCAUCACUCAAAAGACGAUUCAACAACUGUGUAAAGUGGUUCCUGCACAUACAAAUUAAAAUGAGAAAAUCAUAUAGUAAUAUGGGAAAACUAGAAUACCUCUUCUCACUAAACAAUGGAAAAUCAAAAGCCAGAGUUAUAAAAACAAUAAGAACUAGAAAAAGCAAUAUAAGGUCGUCUAGAAAACUGUCUUAAGAAAUACCUAGAGCUCAAAUAUGCAUCCAAGAAAAAGUAUAAUCCUGCAUAGGACUUGAAUUGGUCAAAGAGUUUGAUGCAUGCAUCAACACCCAGCUGCUCUGAAUCUGAAAACUAUGUACCAGUAAAAAUGUUUUAUAAUAGCGCAAAAAAAUAAUUUAAUCGAAAGGGAUUUCAGAAAGCGAUUAAACAUGCAAUUAUAAAUUUCAAUUCCCAAAACAAAAAGGGAUUUCAGAACACGUGCACUUACUAAACUAAGACGAAUUAAAUAAAAUAAAAUAAAAGAAUCCAAACUCACAUUUGAAAGACAACACAGAAACUAACAUAACAAGGAGACCAUUGUGAAGAGACAAGAGUGGCUCAUCUUGCAAAGAGAGUACAAGAGAUCGUAAGAAACACAAUCAAAAGAAAGAUGGAAGGAGGGAGAAUAAAGAGCCUACCAAUUUAGGUAGAAAUGAGACAAACCGGAAGCAAAAACACCAACAUCUUUGCUUCUUGAUUCCUGUUGAAAUUAGAAGCAACACCAGCAUCACAAAAUCUUUAAUAUCGGAAUAUGCGAUAUCUUGUACCAGUCCUCUCCUGUUCCCUCCUUGCAUCGCUCUUCUAGUGUUGGACAACCACGAAUUGUCAGAAGCUCCAGAGAAGUGAGAUGUCGAAUACCUUCCGGUAAGCAUCUCAGUUCUUUACAACGACAAAUAUCUAGAGUUCGGAGGGAUUGCAGACCUUCCCAAAUUUCCUUUGGUAAAGACUCAAGCUCAUCACAUGAAGAGAUUAUCAGAUGCUCCAUAACUAGGCUAAAUGGUUCAUUUGGUAACUCCUUCACUUUUGGAAAAUCAUUCACAUCAAGAGCUUGAAGACAAGUAAGGUUUUUGAACAUCCCGUCCGGGAAGGAUGUUAUUCUUUUACCUCCAGCGAGGGUAAGGCUGUUAAGACCACAAAAGCUAGAGAUUGACCUCAGCAACUCAUUGUUACAUCCCAAUACAUCUAGGUUUUUAAGAGAUACAAGACAUGGCAGUCCAAGUUUAGGGCAAAAGGAGAUGGUUAAACGAGAAAGACAAGGAAACAUCUCACCUCUUUCCACUUUCAAUAACCCUUCUAAGUUUGGUAGGAUUUCUAAUAUGAGUACCUCCAGAGAUGGGAAAAUCCUCGCCACAAUACCAUCUUGAGAUUCUUCAUCAUCAUCCAAGUAUUUCAAAUCAUUCAUAUUAUGCAAAGCGAGUUUUUUCAAAGAUUGUAGUUUACCAAAUGACGGAAGCCGCACACAUUUCUCACAAUUCCAAAGUACAAGAGCAACUAAAUUACUGAGAAUACUUAUCCAACUUGGUAAGAAUAAUCUGUUAUAGUGACAAAUUAUCAACCUCUUGAGAUUUGAGUGAGGUUGAAGCACUUCAAAUAGUUGCUCAAAACUAAUAGUAGGGGUCUUCGUAAAUCCGUCAUUGCUGGUCCACGAAAAACAUAAUUCCUGGAGGUCUUUUUUACCCAUCAAAUUGGCUGCUUGAGCUUCAGAUAAACUACAAACAUCAUUUAAACCUUUGAUACUUAGUUUUCCUCCCAGGUUUAGAUCGUGUAACUCUGCCAAGCUAUUCCCUUUCUCUAAACUAACAAUGUACACACUUAAUGUUCUUAGACAGGUUAAUUUUCCAAUGUAUGGAAACAUGUGAAACAAUGAAUGGCAAUCUUUAAUGACAAGAUGUCUGAGAUUCUGUAAACAAGCCAAGCCUUUCGGAAGACAGCUAAGUUUUUGACAAUCUUUUAUUUUCAAGAUUUCCAGUUUUUGUAAGUUGUAAAUUGAGUCCGGCAACAUUUUUAUUUCAAGAGAACGAAGUUCCAAAUACCUUAAAUGAAUUAAACUCCCUAGUGAUGGUACCUGGAUAAAGGAUGUGCAUAAAACCCGAAGGGAACGGUUUGUUGGCGAGUAAUCAUGUUUUGUUUUGGUGUAAUGAUUCAACUGAAACAAUGUUCUCAAGGAUUCAACUUUCCUGAAGGCACCCUCGUCGAAUGAUAACACGUCAUCAUAGUGAAAACUUAUGUGGUGUGUGCUUUUUGACAAAGUAGUCAUGUUUGAAUUCUCCAAAUACAUACAUUCUUGACCCAUUACUGAUUGAGCAAGAUCAUGGACAAGAUCAUGCAUCUUGAAAGAAAUGUCUCCAGAACCGUUGUCCAUCUUGAUGUCUUGAAAGAAAGAUUUUUGGCACAAUUCAUUCCAAACCAUGCUGCCAACAUCUUCAACCUCCAUAUUUUCCCUAGAUAAAAUAAAUUCAUUAGCCAUCCAAAGAUGAAUCAAUUCUUCCCUCACGAAUUCUGUAUCUUUGGGAAACAUAGCACAAAAAGCGAAACACCGCUUUAAGGUUGGAGUUAAAUGAAAGUAGCUCAACCUCAAAGCAGGUAAAAUAUAAUUCUCAUGUGGUAAAGCCCAAAGUUCACUCUCUUUAAUUUCAAGCCAUUCUUUUUCUUCAUUCCUUGAACUCAUUAGACCUCCCAAUGCUUGUGCUGCAAGAGGCAAUCCAUCACAUUUCUUUACUAUCUCCUUUCCUAUUUCCACAAGCUCUGCACGCUCUUCUCUAUUUUGUCCAAAUGCAUAUUGUUUGAACAACAACCAACAUUCAUUAUCAGAGAGAACAUAUAAAGGAUGAGCGUGGCAUGUUCCCAUGAUCGUCGCAACAACCUCAUCACGAGUGGACACUAAAAUGGAACUACCUUUGGAUCCACACGAUAACACUGAUUUCAGUAUAUUCCAUUUCUCUUGGCUUAAUCCGAAUUCCAAUUGCUGAUUUUUGUUCCACACAUCAUCCAAAAUCAGCAAAUAUAUUUUACCUUGCAGCAAUUCCUGCACCUUUCUUUGUAUUACAUCUAAAUUGAAGCCGUCAUACUUCUCUCUUGUGAUAGAUUCUAUAAUGGAGCACAAAAUCCUCUUGACCGAGAAAGUCUCGGAAACACAAACCCAUAUUUUUGUAUUAAAAUUGCUACUCACCCUAGCAUCAUUGUAGACCAAUUGAACAAGAGUUGUUUUUCCAACACCACCUAAACCAACAAUGGGAUAGACGGAAAGGAAGUCGGAGUCCCUCGCUUGGGUGAGAAGAAACUCGAUAAUCUUCUCUUUAUCAUCUUCUCGCCCAAAUACUUUUGGUUCAGCAAUAAUAGAGCUAGUUUGACGCCAUUCUGCUACUUCAAUUGAUCUUUCCCUAAAAGUUCCAUUCUCUCCUAAAUGAAACUUGUUUUUACUUUCAGCAAUAUCAUCUAACCUCCUUGUAAUCUCUUUCAAUCUUUUGCCAAUCUCACGACAAAAAAUGAUGUUCUUUGGUUUGAAAGAUGAUGAGGCAAUAAGUCGAGCAGACUCGAUCGAGCACUCAUCAAGGAUAUCAUCGAGCACAUAAACAGCAUCUUUGAGUUGUUGUAGCCAUACCUUUAUAGAGCGAUUGAUGACUUGCUUCUGCUCAGCAUCUUCAAGAACAGCGUUGACCAAAUCUAAGGUGGUUGAAAGCUUCUGAGCCUUGGACUUGAUUCCAGAAAUGGUGGCCAAUUCAUUUUGAACAAGAGACUUCAAAUUCUGUAACACAACUCCAAGUAAGGCGUCAGCCAUAUUCAGUAACAAAAGUGUUGAAAAAAGAGAAAAAGAUAUAACAAAAGGAGUGGUGAAUUAUCAGAGUGUAGAAUGGAAAAUGAAUAUGAAAUGCUGAUUGUUUUUAUUCAAAAGCAGCAUCCACGAAAAGUAUGGAUGACUAAGCUUAUUGAAUAUCAAAGUCAAACGGUUGUAGUUAAUUUUGGGUCAAAUGCAUCUUUAAGUUUUUCAUUUUUUCAAAAAUCGUCUUUUAAGUUUCAAAAGUCUCAAACAAAUCCUUUUAGUUUUUGAAUCAUUUCAAACAAGUUCUAUUGUAGAUAACAUAGUUGGUAAUUGCUUCCUUGAACUCAUCUUUGAUACCAAAUUUGGCUCCUAACACCUACUUAAAAUUAAUCAUCUUUUUAGGCAUGAUAAAUGGUGGAUAAUGCUCUUUGUUGCUAUCAUCUAAAUCAUCACCAUCAUCCUCUAAAAAGACUUGUUUGAUUCAAAAACUAAAAGGAAUUGUUUGGGACUUUUGAAACUUAAAUGAUUUGUUUGGGACUUUUGAAAUUUAAAGGACAACUUUGGGAAAAACGAAAAACUUAAAGACCUUUAGAUGCAUUUGACUUUUGUAUAUAAAUCUUUUUUUUAAACUUGCAUAUUGAUUUCUUAAGUUUUUACUUUUCAUGUUUCAACAUAAUUGUGUCAUUAUAUUUAAAAUAAAUAAUAAUAAAUGUAUCUAGAAAAUUGCAUAAAAGUUCAUAUUUAUGGAUAAAGUUUUCUUCAAAUGCUUUUCUUGGUCUGGUCUUCAAUGUUUUUAUUUAUUAAUGAAUGACUUAGCUCUUGAUUUUUUUUUGUCAGAUAGUCUACUGGUUGGAGAUCACACAUUUUAAAUAUGGAGAAGUGGGGUGCCCGAGGUUCGAACCCCGACCCCUGCAUAUAAAAUGCAUUUGUCCCUACCAAGUGAGCUCUUGAAUUAUUAUAAAUAGUCAUGUUAUCAUACGAAAAAUUUGUCCCUAAACCCUAAUCCGGAAAAAUAUGGAUUAUAUAAUACGAAUCGUGUUUCCCCUAAAUUCUUGACACAAGAGGGUUGUUUGAAUUUUAUAAUCCAAUAAAAAGCAAAAGAUGCACCCUAUUUUUUGGGGUGUUCGUAUUAUAAAAUUUGAAUUGGUGAAAAACAUUUCCCACCCCAAAUCAAGGGAAAACUCAAUUUGAAUUAUAUAAUCUAAAAAUCUCAUGUUCAUUUUCGUAAAAAAUUAGGGCGCAAGAGAAAUUUAUAGAAUGGAAAAAGUAAUAGUCCAAUUAAAAUAGAUACCCUCUGAAAAUUUGGAGGUCUAGAAAACAUUGAAUGGCCUAAAAUGAAUGGCUAAAACAAUUACCGUUAUUUUUCACACCAUGUACUCUUCUUACGCGCAUGUGCUCUAUUUACGCGCCUUAUUUUUUUUUUCUAUAGCUAACAAGUAUGACAACAAAUAUAAUCUGUAUUUUUCUCAAGCGGAUUGAUCAAACGAGGUUAUAAUACUUCACCAUAAAUAAAUUCAUGGGAGUUUCUAUUACUCCUCCCAAUGAUUUCUUUAACUGAAGAAGUACACUUUUUCGGACGGGAAACACUUUUGUCCUGAUUUACCUAUCCUAGGCUAAGGAUAAAAAAUUUUUUUUUUUUUCCUUCACUCAUUCGAAGUACAUGUCCAGGGUAGAAAAAGAAGGUCCCUGAAUUCAUUUUAUUUUAUUUUAUUAGCAAAAGAUCCUAAUGCCAGUUAAUUAUAACACCAUAGGAAAAUAUAAUCCCAACAUAAUUAAUCCAAAGAAACUGAGGACACUCCUCCGGAGGAUAAUAAAAGACAAACCACAAUGUUAUAAAUUAUAUAAGUGUUUACUAAUAACUCAUUGUUCUAACUUCUACAUUUCACAAUAACAAAUCUCAUUAACUUGCAUUUAAAGAAGUUUCAAUAUGAGUGGUAAAUCUUUAUAUCCAAAAUUGGAGUAAGGCAGGGGGAACUAAAAAAAAUGUUAACAAAAAACAGUGCUAAUUGAAUUAUAACAUUUAGACCACAAAUAUGAGCUAAGCAGAUUUCCUCAACAUCAAGGGAGGUGAAACAGACUUCAUUCCAUGUUUUUGAACUGUUUGCUUUGGUAGCGCACCAGCGGAAGCACCUUGGAAUUUUCAAACUUCACAACAAAAUCACUGCUAACUUAGCCCUGUCAGAAAUAAAAGCAAUCAUAAGAACGUUCAGGCAAAGGAGCGGACAUAACUAGAUCGAUCAAAUGCCCUCUAAACUCAUAGUCGGGAUUUAGGACCUUCUCUCGGAGAUCAGCAGCAUCCAUACGUUUCACAAUUUAUCUGAUGUAAACAUAACGAAAUAACAUGAAUGUCCCACCGAAACUAUCAUUAUGUAAUACAAUGACACCUUCCUAAUGAAGACUUGUAUAAACACCUGGUUUAUAGCUUGAACAAAGAAUUUUCAUUGGUAGCAUGCUCAGAAUCACCUUGUGCCUUUUGCUAAGCAACAAUGGCAAAUGUAGAGCCCCAUUUGUCACAAUAUUUACCAACAAUACGAGAAAAUCAUAAUAUAGGGUUGCUUGUGAGAAAGUGCUUGAGUUUGUUAUUGUUGUCGAUGAUCACUUUGCCCCACAGCAUUACGGACAUGUACAUCUUGACUUCCAUCACUCAAAAGAUGUUCAAACAACUGUGUAAGCAAGUGAUUCCUGCACAUGGAAAUUGAAAUGAGAAAAUAGUAGGGUGAUAAGCAGAUGCAGGGAAGAGAGAAUGCACUGAAAGUAUAAGACCUUUCAUAACACAUGCAUGUGUGCAUCUAGAAGCUUGGCCUUCAUAAUAAAGCUCAAUGUACUUGAAGAAGUGAAUAUCAGGAUUCUCACUAAACAAUACAAAAUCAAAAGCCAAUAUUACAAAAGCGAAAAACAACUAUAAAUGCAAGUUCCCUAAAAAAAACACUAUAAAUGCAAUAUAUAUAGGCCUAGAGCUUAUUAAAUAUGCAUCCAAGAAAUAGUAUAUACUAGUUCUUCAUAGGACUUGGAUUCUUCAAAUAGUUUGAUGCAUGCUUCAACACUCAAUUGCUCAUAAUAUUCCUAGAAGUCUGCAAAUUGUGUACCAUUAAAAUUCUUUAAUGAAAUCCAAAAAAAUAAUUUAAUUGCCAAAGAAAAGUCUUAUAACAUAUUAUAAGACAUUUAUUUUUAGAAAGAGCCCAAUUCUUAGAUAUUUAGAAGGAACCCAAUUCAGUCGUUAACUCUUGAGAAUUGCUUUUCUCACCAAAGCAAUUGCUCACGUACACCCUACUAAUGUCAAUAAUAAAACAACAUAAAACGAUUCUUAUUUUUACUAAUAUUUGCACGCCUUGAGAUUUUUGUUUUGCACCUCAUCAAUCAAGACUGACGAGUCGAACCGGUGACAUUUGAAUUUGAAUGUUUGUUAAAUUUUCCAAAUGGACUUUUAAUGCUGCUACUCCCUCCGUCCAAGUGACACAGUUGAUCCAAUUAGGAAUACCAAUGCGUAAUUUUGAGUUUAAAUAUCUUGAAUAAUAUAUUGGAAAAAAUUAUAAAAAUUUGAUAUUUUGAAAAUACUCAUCGAGACGAAUCUAACGACAUCUUAUAUGAUAUUAUUUAUCUUUGUAUAUUAGUAGAAAAAUAUGGUCAAAGUAAGUUAGAUCAAAAUUGCACAUUUUUAAACAGGUCAUUUAUUGCGGGACGGAGAGAGGAUUAUAUUUGGUAGACUUUUAUUUUUCAAUACAUGAUAAAAACGUAUAACACUACCCUUCAAAAAAAAAAAAAACGUAUAACACUAGUUUCAAACUCAUGUCUAAGGCUUAUACUACUUCAAUUACUCAUCCACUAAACCAAAUCAAAUGCAUUUGAUACUACUUGCAAAUAAAUAAUAUUGAUUUGAAUUCCAGAAUAAAUCACUACUAAUCUUAGGUUUUGUAACCCGUUGUUCAUUAGAUAAUUCUUUUAGGAAUAUUAAAUUAUCAAACCGUAAAAGAGAAGUUAGAGUUUAUUCAUGCUUUUGAUAACAUUAGUUCACCCAAGACAUUGGAUUGAGACACAAUAUUGAUGUUGGUUUAUUUUUCUUUUAAAUCAACAUAAAUUGUUCUGUCAAAAGAAAAUAAUAGUAGAAAAAUAAGUAAAUAAUAACCAUAUACUUGUGUUCUUUCAAAAAAAAAAAAACUCAACUCAGCCAUGGAUCGCGCACAGCUUCUCUUAGUAGGUUUACCCCUCUUCCUCCUCUGCUCCGACCUCUUCUCCCUCUUCACAUCAUCUCCUCCACCGCCAAAACCAUCUCACCACCACCAUCACCACCAUCAACAACCACAACCAGUAAUCAACCCCGUAACCACACCCUUCCCUUCCGACUCCGAGGUAAUUUUCUAUUCCUUCAACCAAUUUACUUCAUCACUGUUAUAUUUUCAUCAUCACAACAUGUCUAAUUAUUAUUCGGUUUGUAUUUGAUCUCAGAAACUCGCUACUAAUAUUGGAGGUGCAGGGUUUGGCAACACUGUUAAUAUCAAUUUCUGCUCUUCUUGCUCCUACAAGUACGUAAUAUACUUUACAGAAUACUUAUUAUAUUUAUAUAUUUUUAGGAAUUAUAUUAAAGACAAAAUUGAUGCCUUAUUCUUUUUUUAUUUAUGCAUCUACAAUGCAAAAUGUUAUGCGGGUUGUUAGACACUUGAUGUGUAUUUUAUGCUUUGAAAUUUUGAUUCUCAGUGGUUAAUUAGCUAGAGAAAUGUUGUAUUAGGUUUUUAUAUUGAGUUUAAUUCAUCCUUACAAAUCAUUCCAUGCAUAUCAAUUUUGAGAUGUUCUAAGUUACUAAAAUACCAGUCAAUCCUGGAUUGCGGCCGACCCCAAAAGUGGGAUAUCGGGUGUAUAGUGGGAAGACGCUACUGAAUGAUACUAUAAAGUGUAAACGAACAUAUAUUUAAUAUAAAAUUAAAUAUAACACUCAAAUCUCAUGAAAUAUUCAUAAAUCAAAACACUCAAACAUCCACAGAACAUUACAUUCAAAUCCAAAUACCAAUAAAUGUCAAGGAUAUAAAUAAGCUUAUGAAAGCUUUCAAGUCUCCAACAAAAUUUCACAAGUCUUAGUUAAAACAUUAAAUCCAAAAGAACAAAGGACAGAGGAACUAAAAAGAAAACAAAGAAUAGAGGAAAAGAUAGAUGGAACAUGAAUAGUGGACGACGAUGGCAAUCGGUUUGCAGAUCGUGUGAGGGUUGCAAAUCAGUUUGCAGAUCGUGUUUUGCAGCGGAGAAGAGAGAAGAGUCAGGAAAAUGUUUGCACACAACAAAAUGUUAGGGCUUAUACGAAAUCCCCAAAAUGCCCUUAAAAUGGUUUUAAAAUUAGGGUCAAUGUGGGAUUUUCCUGUUAAAACCUAAUAGUGGAUCAAAAUCCGCUGCCCGCUAUAGCAGCUAUAGCGUCCUCUAUCUUGAACUGCAUCUCUAUGACGCCCACCAUAGUGGUUUCUUACCACUAUGCUAUGCUAUGCCGCUAUAGCGCACUAUUGACUAAAGUAAUUACUAUCAUGAAAUUCAUGGUGGACUUCCUUAAUGAACUAGAUAUUAAUUCCUUUGUUCACUUUCCUUGAUCUACUUAUCAUUGCUCUGCUUGCUGAAUCAUAUUUCUUAUAGUUGGUAGAUUGCUUGUUGGUUGAUUGUUUGUCAAUGAGUUGGAUCCAAAUUUGGUGUAUGAUAGAACACUAUGGCGUCAUUUGAUCCAUGUAGCCGACCCCACUUAGUGGGAUAAGGCUUGGUUGUUUUUGUUGUUGUUGGUUGAUUGCUUGUCUUUCUGUGCAUGAUUAUGUAUAGAAUGGGAUAGUCAGUGUAAAUGGAUGUUUUUUACGUAUGUAGGGGAACAGCAGUAACAGUGAAAAAAAUGUUGGAGAUUGCUUUUCCUGGAAUUGAGGUUAUUCCUGCAAAUUAUCCCCCACCACUUCCAAAACGUCUGCUAAGCAAAGUGGUUCCAGUUGUUCAAAUUGGUGUUAUAGGUGUCGUAGUGGCAGGGGAACAGAUAUUUCCAAUGCUGGGUUUUGUUGCACCUCCUCCUUGGUAUUUUAGUUUGCGUGCUAAUAGGUUUGGAACCAUUGCUACUACUUGGCUUCUUGGAAAUGCCGUGCAAUCAUUCUUGCAGAGCUCCGGGGCAUUUGAAGUUUACUUCAACGGCAAUCUGGUUGGUGCUCUUCUUCUAUCUUUUACUUAUAUCAUGUGAUUCUUUUGGAAGCACUCACAAUCAAUCAUGAUGGAAUAGGUCCCUUGCAUGACUAGUUUUAUCAACAUUUUGACCACUUCACUUCAUUUUACUGGAUAUUCACCUGACAUUAUGAAAUACUAUCAUAUAACAUGUUAGCAACGAUCAUUGAUCUUGACAAGACUAGUUGAAAAAUGAGAAAUAGCCAAUAUUAGUUGAAAAACAAGAAAUAGUUUUGUUACCUAGUAGUGCUAAUUAAAAAUGGUGGUCCCUUUGAUUUAUUAUAUAAAACCUUUGUACUCGUAGUUUAGAACAUCUACUUUCAGAUUGCAAUCAUUUGAACAUGCUUUUACUGGGAAGUUGUUUCUCGCCAUGUGUUUGACUCUCAACAAGUCAUUUGGUUAGUCGGUAGAUUGUUUUGAUUAUUAGGUUUCUUUCAUUAGAGUUUUUUGGUAUAUAACUUGUUAUAUCAUUACUAUUACGGUUUAUUUGGAAAACACCUAUGAAAUGGACUGAUAGUAAAUAAAUUGUGAUAAACAUGUCGUCUUCUCUGUUUUAAAGCUUGUUAUCUGAAGCAAAUUUUGACUUCCCUGUUGCUUUCAUUUGUGCACUUCUGCGACUAUAAUGUUACUGAGUUGUUGGUUAGAGUAGAUGGAAUGUAAAUGGCAUCUUUAAUGCUUCUGAACUUAACCCGUUGAAAUUCUUCAUCUGUCAUUGAAGGUGUUCUCUAAAUUAAAAGAGGGAAGGUUUCCAGGAGAGAUAGAGUUGAAGGAUCUGAUCACCAAAAGGAUGACAAAUUCUAGACUUGUCAGCAGCGCUUCAGAAUUGGGGCUUUAGCUCUUUUGUCGAAUUGCAUCUCAUGAAGACUUCUAAUUUGAACAGGCAAAGAUGAUGUAAUGGACCUACCAUUGCAUUGUGAAGCCGAGGCUGGUUCACAGAUAUAUCAUAGGAAUGUAAUAUUGUAAUGUUUCCAUACUGGAAAAUUGACUGUAAACCAUGUAACUUCUGAAGCCAUAUUGGUUAAUUCAAGUUUGCUUCAGACGUAAAUUUCAGCCUUACACUAUCAUUUUUCUUUUUUCGACAUUCUGACAUUGUGCUAUUGUCAGCUCAGCUCAAGUAAACUCCACUUACCACGCGAAAAAUAGAAUGAUAUUAAGGACAAUUUUGACCAUAUAUCUAACUGGAAGUAUAUGACUUCUGAACUAAAUGUGUAUAGAAAUUAAUAAAUCAAAUUAUCGAGAUACUGUAAUAAAUGAAAAAUAGAUCUAAGAAAUGAAUAUUAUCAAUGGCAAUGCGAGGAACUCAUUCGGUUAAUAGCCCUGAAAUGACGGAAAACUUGUCUGGCCAAAGAUUCUGUUAAAAAAAUAAAUCAAGUGCAUCAUCAAAUUGCUUUCUGAAGUCAUGCAAUUAUUGGAGAUGUUUGAAAUCAUAGCCUAAAGUUAUUGUUAAUUUUUGUUUGACAAAUAUUUCACACUAAUAUCUAAAGUUAAAUAUUUAAAAUUAAAUUAACCCCUAAAAUUAUUUAUGAAUAUCAGAUUAGUAGUCUUCAUAUUUGUUAUGUAAAUCUCAAAUUUCUUAUCAAAGAUAGUGAGACAUGACUAAAUUAUUUUACAAUAUAAUUUCAAAGAUGUAGUCAAUUUCUUUAUUUGAGGGACUAACUCAUUGUCUCGUACAAUUUUAGGCAUAAUUUUUUCAUACAUUAUUUUGAACAUACAAUUGGUGAACAGUUCAUUAUGAUUUUUGCUUGAUGAUGAACAGUUGAUAUAAACAUGAAAACUGGUUUGUUGUGCUCAGUAACUAAUAUACGUGAUGCCUAGAGUUGAAUCUCGAUGUGUAUACAUUGUUGAUUAUAAUAAGACCAAAGACUGCCAUAUUUUAUUGCCUUCCUCUUCAAGCUAUCUUUUGUGUAAUCUCCUUUCAAGUGCCACCAAUUUCUACCAAAUUGAACAUACACGAAGCAAAUAUCAUGAACAAGUACAGUUCCUUGUUGUUCAGCUAACUGGAAUUCAUCACUUAUCCCUUUAAUAAUGACCUGCGAUGCAAACAAAUAAAGCUAAGUAUGUUAGCAUUUCAAAGCCUUAAUAAAAUGUCACAACUAAAUAGGUUUAAGCUCUUUGGAACAACUCCUAACCAUUCUGAAAGUAUUUUACCUAAAAAUUUUCAUAUUCUGCUUAUAUCACGGCCAAAAACAAAAGUUGUAGCCCAGUUAAUAGCUACAUAGAAUCUGUUCCUCCAGCUAAUGACACGAGUUAGAUAAGCUGAGCGCCAAACAAACCAACUGAGAAAACCUGCUAGAGACAAUCCUUUUGCAUCCUGUAGGAGAAAAGUUAGUGAAUUAAACUGUUCUAUGUUUUUAAGAGCACCAAGAAAAGGACCUUUAGGUCGAGCACUGAUAAGUCUAGUGGUCCCUUUCUCCUGGGAUACUAUGCGUGAAAACCAGAUAAGCCUCACCAAAAGGUUAAGGAAUGAUAAAAAUUACCUUGUUCUGUCUGAGGUCUACUAGAGCCUUGUAACUUCCAACAGUUGCCAUGCUUCCAAGAUGCUUGUACACAAACUGAUUCCCCAAGUCUAUAUCUUUCAUGCUGUUUGCACGGCCUCCAUUGGCUUCACCUACUUUGUUUAACAAGGCUGCUAAGUAUUUACCUUGCCUCUCUGCUACCUGUGGAAUUCAAGUGGCAAUACAUUAAGGCCCUGUUUAAUUAGGCACUUAUAAGGUAAGUGUUUAUAUCAUAUAAGUGCGUAUGUAUAAGCCAUUUCUAUCGCAAGAGAUAAAAUAAAGUCUAAUUAAUUUCACGUAAUCUAUAAGCUGCUUUCAUAAGCUAUCCUGGAGAGCUUAUGGAAAUAAACCUAAAACAACUUAUGGACAUGCAUAAGAUAAUUCCAUAAGCUCUCCUAAACAGUCUCACAAGUGCUUAUACCGGAAGAUAAGUUGAAAUAAGUCGGUCCAAAUAGACCCUAAUUUGACAUGAAUAAGCUUUCAGGCAAAGGAAGAUACAAUACAUGAACCUCUACCAAGUAAAGGGAGUAACACAUUCAGAAUGGAAUGUGUUUAGGGACUAACUAAGUCCUUAGUGUUAAACUAAAACCAAACCUACACAUUGACAGGAAUUCAAGAAAUGAAAGUGAGCGUUGGAGAAACUAAUGAAACCAAUGUAAGUUACUUGGGCAAGAGCUGGAAGUGUUGGUUUUCCAGUACUUUCAACAAAUCCACUGCAGUCACCUAUUGAGAAGAUAUCUUGUACUGAAGGAACACGAAGCCACUCAUCAAUACCAAUCCUGUGAAGAGAGAACUUUGUACAUAAAUACUUACACGCUUUAGUGUUAAAACAUAAUAUAUUUGGAGUAUUGAUAAAAAUAAUAAUAUAUUUGGACCAAUGUGAUCCUGCUUUCAUGAUAAUACAGAUCCGAAUACUAUAUGUAUCCAUAUAGAAAUCAGCUGCCAAUUGUAAAUUUUGCAACGGUUGUCCAUGGAAUGAAAAUAAAUGCAACUACUACGUUGAGUAAACAAACCUUCCACCAGGAGAUUUAGGGAGAUCCAGCGAGUGGAUAAAAGGUGAUGGACCAACUCCAGUAGACCAAACCAGCAAUCCGUAUGGAACCUCAGUACCAUCGUUAAGUAUAAUCUUCUUUUCUUGUACAUCUUUCACAAUGCCUCGAACAAGUCGCACUCCUGACUGAUAGAAAUCUUAACAUGAGGAAAGGAACAUAUUGAACAAACAGUAAAGGGACUUUCUCGUGAUAUUCAUAGGUACAACACGAACAUAUUUAACAAAAAGUAAAGAAACACUUACAACAUAAAGCUCACCUUUGUCAACUGGUUGGUGGCAUAGUGCCUGAGUCGGUCAUCAAAGGAAGACAAUAUCUCAUUAGCCUGAAGAGACAUGAAUAAAUUGAUUAGCAACAAAAAUUAUUGUGAAAGACAAAUUUUGGAUGGAGAAGAAAUAUUGUUACAAAUUUACCACAAAAUUGGCUUCUAUGAACUCUAAGGUAUUUCUAACCAUUUUAUUAUUACAAUGAAUUGCCGAAAAUGACAACGGCAAGAGCAAGAUGACUGUUGCUAAUUUCUAUAACAUGUGUAUAAUCUAUUUAAUUGCAUCACAUAUCUAAUGAUACUAAGCAUACCUCAAUCAAAGUAACAUGGAUAUAGUCCUUCACAUGAGCAUAUCUCUGACGAACAUCUCUCAUGAUAAAAUCACUAAGUUCACCACUAAAUUCAACUCCCGUAGGACCACCUCCGACAACCACACAGUGUAACAGCCUUUUCUUCUCCUCUUCCGAAAUCCCUGCAUCCAAAUCAGUUACAGAUUACAAAGGUAAUGCAUAAAAAGCAUUAUUUUUCAAACACAGGAAAAUUAUCGCAAACCUGGAACGUCAGACAUCAUCAAAUUGAGGAGCAACUUGCGACGGAUUUCCUGUGCAUGGUAAACUUCACGAAGAAAAAUUGCAUGUUCAUAAACUCCAUGAAUUCCAAAAGUGGUGGGUUGUGCUCCUAGUGCAAUUACUAACUUAUCAUAGGAGAUUGUAAACUUCCAAGGAUCCAGUGUCUGUGUUCCUUCAGUUACAGUCUCACAUUGUACCUUCAAAACAAUGUGUCAGACUCUCCCAAAUUAAGCUGCACUGUGAUUACAUUUAUUUCAACCAAUACUAGUAUCACACCCUUUUGUUCGUUGCUGUCUAAAGGAGUAAGAGCAUUUGAAGAAGACUAAAACAGUGUUAUAAAAACCAGGAAAGUUACGAUGUUUCACCCAAUUUUUCAUAAGAAUUGUAAAUUGAAGUUUUAUACAAAGUAAGAUACAUAAAGCAGAACACACAACAGUACUACGGCUAUGGAAUGUAGUUUUAUACAUAAAAAACUAUAUUUCUCAAAAUAUCCUAACUAAACUGCCAGGAAACAGUAAGGAAAAUCGAAAGUUCAACACUCCUCCUGGUUUGGCUUGUUACAUAAUCCCACCUUCUUUCUUAGCUGCAAAAACCAAGUCCUAGGCUAUUAGGAAUAUAUUGUAUUCAGAGUUUCCCUUUUCCCAAAGUCAGAAUUCUGUUACAAUUUUGUUAGUCACGGUUAGGAAUUUAGUAACAAGUUAAUUACAUCUAGUUGCACUAUAAAUAUACCACUGUGCUCUUAUGCAAAUCAGAAUGGAAUAUACAAGGCUCUCUCAAAUCUGAUUUCUAGACCUUUCUUUCUUUUCUACACUUUCCUUUACUGUUUAUGCAUCUCAGUUUCUAAUAAGAAUCACUCAAUCUUUAUAAACUCUAUUUAUGUCAUAACCCUAAGCAACAUGGGAUUUGAGCUUUUCUCCAAUAAUGAACACCAAACGAAGAAGUCACAAUGUUAGGAUGAGUAAUUUCACAGAACAAACUGACAAACGAAAACACAUUGAUUCUAGCGCCAAUUUAACAAACUGACUAGCAAAAGAUACAUUUGAGAGUGUUUUUAUAAUUGAUAUAUUCAGGGACUUUAGUGGCACCAUCAGACAUAUUAAACAACCCAAAUGACUAUUUACUCGGGUCGGUUACAAUUUAUAUAUGAAAUUGAAUUUCCAUUGGGGCUUCCGGUGUCAGGGACAGGAACUGCUUUGAAAGUCAAGAUUCCAAUACAACAAUAACCAACUAUCUCACUAGUUAGGGUAGGAUAAAAGGAUACUACGUAUUUCAACCCUACAAAAAUGCAAAAAGAAAAAAAAUAAACAUCUAUAGUAAAUUCCAAAUCCCAAAUAAGGUACCUUUUAAUGGUUUGAAUUUUCAAACCUCAAAUAAAUUCCACUUAGCUUCAGAACAUUCUAAAGUUCUUCUCUACAUAAUAAUAGCUAUGAUUUUUCAUAGCCAAAAACGCAUUUUGCAGCACAAACUUCUAAUCUUAAAAUCAAAUAUAUCACAGCAUUGCUAAAUCCUCAAUACAUAGUUUGGCAGAGGAAAUUCCAACUUACAACCAUUGCAGAAUCACAUGCCAAAGGCAAAGAUCGUAACUCAUAAUGAUACUUGUUUGCCACAUCAUAGUCACAUUAACAUGACAUUGAAUUCAAUCACUUCCAACCACUCAUCAUUCUUAUUAAGAAACACAUUCAUGUGAAAAAUUGAAUUAUAAAAUCUACCACUCCUAAAGUUUCAGACAAACAUUAUAUAUAUAUGCCUUUUUUUUUUGUUUUGUAAAACUCGAUAUCCUGCCCAAUUACCGGCAAAUCCGCGAGACUAAUCCCACCGUUAACUAGCUGGGGGGUCAAUUGAAAUGAAAUCAAAACUUUGUAUGGACUGAUCAUAGUAGUCAAUAGCGGCCAAUAGCGCCGCUAUAGCGGCUGCGCGGUGCGGUGCGGUGCCGGAGCGCUACGCAACAAGCCAUAGUGUUGCGGUGUGAGAUAGCUGCGCAACGCUUCGUAGCGGUUUUACGGUUUAGAACCGCUAUUUCAUUUUAAGAGAAAAUACAAAAUUGUCCUUGGUUUAAAAAAAAAAGAAGGGUAUUUUUGUAAAUCUUCCUCUGCUUUUCUGCUGUUCUGUAAAACUUUUCACCUCUGCUGUAAAUCUUCCUCUACUUUGUCGUGUUUGCUCUGUUAUCCUGUUAUUUUUUUGUUUAACAAUCUCAAAACUCUGAUGUCCUGUUACUUUUUUGUUCUAGUUUUCUUUGCUAUUAUUGAUUCCAAACUCCAUUCUGCUCUCUCUGUUUUUGUUUGUAGUUUGUACAAACAAUCCUCUGUUUUGUUCAUAUAAAACUCUAUUCUGCUCUCUCUGUUUCCUUAUUUUUGUUGUUUUUGUUUUUAUGAAAUAGCGGUCAUAGCACUAUGCGCUAUCCCGCUAUAGCAUUUUUGGGGUCGGCCACUAUGCGCCGCUAUCCGCUAUUAACUACUAUGGGACUGACCCAACACAGGAAUUGUUAGCAAUUGGAAGAAUUGAACCCAAGACUUUGAGAGGAGCAUACUCAAAGGUCCUGAUCCUACAUCACCAGACCAAGCCCUAGGGGUUUUACAUAUUUAUGCCUCGAUUAGUUAAUUGCUAAUUCUGAUUCUUAGAUAUCAGGUCUAACUCAACUCCUCAAAAACCAAUAUUUUUUUUUUUUUUUGAGGGAUCCUCAAAACCAACUUGUAAAGUAAGAAUCACUCAAAAUUUCAAAACUCUAUUUAUGUCACAGCUCUAAGCAACAUGGGGUUUAAGCUUUUCUCCAACGAUGACCCACCAACCAAGAAUUCAAAAUGUUACAAUGAGUAAUUUCAAGGACCAAACUGACAAACAAAAGACACAUACCAGCACCAAUUUAAGUAAAAAAAAAAAAACAUUUAACAACUAAACUGUCUAACAAAAGACACAUUCGAGGGUAUUUUUUUUUAUAUAAUUUUGAUGCAUUCAGAGAUUAUAGUGUCACCAUCUAACAUAUUGAAUGACCCAAAAUGACUAUAAUAUUAUAAUUUAAUCCAAUGAAAUCGGUAAAAAUCAUUUUUUUUCCCUCCCACCAUUACUAAACCAUAUAAAUAUUCCCAAUUACAUUAGAUAAAACAUACCAUGAAUUGAAAAGAGAAAAAAAAUCAAACACCUGAUAGACAUGUACAAAUAAGUUUAGAUACAAUACAAUAAAAAGAAAAAUAAAGAUACCUCAUGUUUAUCAGCAUUGAUACCAGUACAAUUAGCAAGGAAGAAAAAAGAACCAGGUUCUUUAGAAAUAGUGGGUUGAAUCCUUGCAACAGGUUCAGCAACAGAUCGAAACUCAAGAGUUCCAACACAAGUAGAAGCCAAAAGAGGUGUGAAAACCAUGUGAUUACGCGGUGAUACACAAACGAUAUCAUAGAUAUUAGAAUCUAAUCCUUUCAUGAAUCUGCAUCCGGCCCAACCGGUGCCGAGAACCACCACGCGUGGCUUCUCGUGUGGUUUGGUUGGUCCGAGAGCCGCAUAACGAACCGGAGCGGUUGAACCGGGUGUUGAAGUGGAGAAGCGAGAGAGAAGAGUGAGAGAUGGGAAGAGGUGAGAAGGGUUGGUUGAGUUGGGGGGUUUGAAAAGUUGUUUCGUGGUGAAGAAGUAACUUUUUGAGAGGUUUCUAAACAAAGACAUGGUUAGUGUGUUUGUGUUUGAGAUGUUGAAGAAAGAAGAAAUGAAGUUCCAAAGAUGUAGACUGAUGGGAUGGGAUGAUCAGAUCAUAUUGAGUUGACUGAUAAUGUCACCAACUUUGUUGGGCUGCUUGUCUGCUUUUAUGGGAUCAAAUGAUGUAAUGAGAUGAGAUUGUUGACAUUAUUAUUGCUUUGAAUAUUCAUGUAGACUACUAGUCGUACAUCACAUACUGUCUUUUUUGUCCAGGUGCUCAUAAAAUAUAUAUACAAUAAAAAAUAACAAAUUUCAAAACUCGGAAGAUGCUAAUACAUCAUAGUUGAAACGAGAGAUUGAAGUUUAUCAAUUUUUUUUUUAGCAAAGGAAAGGUAAGUAUUAUCAUUAAAUCAAUCAAUGUUCAAUAUAAGAAGAAUAAGACUAAAAAAAUACGCUAAUUAUGUCAAGAACAGGCCGCCCUAAUUAAAGUAUGAGCAAUCAUGUUUGCAUGUCUCUUAACAAACUUCACAUCAAAGUUAGAAUGUAAAGAUAAUUGAUAAAAUUCUAUAAACAAUAGCAUAGAAUUCCGAAUCACCGUGACCCGAAGACGAUAGCGCUUGCACUAGAGUAGCUGAGUCAGAUUCGAAGACAUCAAGUAAAGCUACUGUCUCCCUCUCCAAAACUGUCAAAUUCGCUUGCUGCAAAUUCGUUUGAGCCCGAAUAAAUUGCCCAUGGAAGUCUCUAACACAACACGCAAAAGAUGUAAUAUGGUUACAGUCAUGGAACGCGACGUCCAUGUUGCACUUUGACCACGUCUCGCACGGUUUCUCCCAAACAGAGUUGUUACCUUGCACUCUAUUCUGCCCGUGUUGCACAACUGUUGGUGAGGGCUGUUUAUGAACCUCUUGUCAUUGUUGUCAUGCAUCUAGUGUUGUUCUUCCAAUAAUUGUUGAAGUAUGAUGAGCGUCAUUCUAAAUGACUUCAUUACGUGCUUCCCAAAUUUGCCAAAGAAGCAAAGCCACCCGACCAGCAAUGUCUCAGCUUUCUGAACAACAUAUGUCAAAAACAAAAUAUGUCAAACUGCUCACAGUUCCAACUCGCGGUUGCAACACAGUCGAAAGCCCUGCCCAAUACCAACUCUCACGCGCCACCAUAUAACCCAUAAAAGCAUGUCAAUCACCCUUAACAAUCGUAUCACACCAGGAACAUAUCACCUUACAUUGUACAUGUCGUGAUUGUAGUCAGAGGCGGGUUGGAACACACCCUCUGUAAAUCCUUCAUAACAAAUUACGAGUUUUAUGAGGGGGAUUCACCUUCCAGAUCCUACACCACUCUCCGUCAACAUGGAACCAAUCAGUGUGUAACAACUCCAUCAUAGCCAUUUGCAACCCGUCUUAAUAGUAUACCUUUCGUUACGUUCCAUCAUCCACUCUAUUCUUUCAUUCUGAACUUCCGCAAACAAUGGUGUGUUGAGAAUAGCUUGCACCAUCUCAUCUAAAAAGGUUUAAUUGUAGUUUUGAUCCCCUUUUUUCAUCAUUUUGCGAAAUUGGUCCCUCAAUUUUUAAAUUCGACAGUUUUGGUCCAUCUAUCAAAUAUUUUGUCUAAAAUAUUGUUAUAUCAAUGUUUUAAAUGAAGUUUUCAAUGGAAUUUUGUUACAAUUUCAUCCAUGUUAAUAUUUUUUCAUCUUCAGAUCAUAUUCCACGACAUUUAAAAUUUAUCACAUCACAUUUUUAAAUUUUAAAAUAUGAUGGAGGGAUCAAAACUGUCGAUUUUUACAAUAGGGGGACCAAUUAUGCAAAAUGAUAAAAAUAAGGGGAUCAAAACUGCAAUUAAGCUCAUCUAAAAACAAAGAUUCAAUCAAAGAAAAAAACAAAAAAACUAACUCAUAUGAAAUCGAAGAUAAUAAUAAAAAUAUAUGUCGACAUUAAUUAAAACGAUUCAAGUAAGUCGUUGUAGCUUAAUGUAAAUUGCCUAGAAAACGAAGAUAUUGAGAUGAAUGCGGAAAUAAAAGAUUAGUUAAUUUGUUGAGAAUAGAAUAUACACCAACUAAUGCUAUCCAAAUUCUUGUAAUGUAAAUGUAUACAUAAACAUGAGCAAAUUUAUAUAUGAUGUCUUAUGCAAAAGUAAAUCAUCUCAUCUUCUUUGCUAACUUGAUUUUGGACGUGUCUUGGUGACAAUACAAUUUAGUAAAAUAUUUCUUGUUAAAACAAAUGUUCAAGUGAUUAGCAACUCACGAAAAAAUAGCAGUAUAAUACAAAAUUUUUGAUGAAAAAUGAGAGCUUAUCAUCAACGUAAACCGAGAAAGAAGAUGGUGAAAUCUUUGUUCUUGAAAGGUAAAAAUAGCGAGUAUGAUGAUUGUGGCUUGUGAGUAUAUAUCAAAAGAUAAUAGAAGAAUUAGGAAAUAGAGAAAGAAACAAAAAGAAUGAAGUAGAAGAAUAAAAUUGAAACGUUUGGAAUUUGGAAAUAUAAAAUUGAAACGUUUGGAAUUUGGAAAUUAAUUGUGAACAUUUAUUCUAUUAAAAAAAUAAAGGAAAGACUAACCGGUGUCUCUCAAGUACUAGUCAAGGAGGAUAUUACAAAAUGAAAUUAUAUAUAUAAGGGUUAAUUAAGUUUUUGGUCCCUAUAAAUAUCUGCACUUUUGUUUUUAGUCCCUAUAAAAAUAAAUCACACUUUUUAGUCCCUACAAAAUUUUCUAUUAGUGUUUUUAGUACCUGUUAAAUUAAAAUUUGUUUAAUUAUGCUUAAACUUCUAAAUUUUUGAAAGAUUUUUUACAUACAAGUUCACUUGUUACGUGACUUUCUCUUAUCUUAUUUCCUUACUUCUUAUAGCGCAGUAACAUGUCCUGAAUAUCCCUUUUUUAUUUGGGGCAUUGAAAUAUAUAAUGGCAUGUUUAGUCAUUAGGGCUAUUUAGGUUGAUGGGUUCUUCAUUUUGAUGACUGACUGUAAUUUCUAGUCAGAACAAUUUCUUGAAGCUUUUUGUUUGUCUCUUGUACAUCUUUAUGCCGCGUUUUCUGAUAUCAAAUAUGCCAGUGAAUACGCAUUCCAUUGAACCACAUGGUUGGAUUUCAUGCUCUCAAUUUAAUGGAUUUUCAUUUAACACAUUGUUGAAUUCGUUGGAGUGAUUUUCAGGCUUUUGUUCAAUUUGUUCGUUGGAACCCUUUCCGAAGAAUGAGAACAGGAGAGCAUGAAAGAUCUUUUAUUGGUAAGGCUUAGGGGAAAUAUACAAAUAAUCGCGCAGGUAAUGUAUUAGGACUUAUGUAUUCUUAUCACAAUAAGCCUUUUCAUUUUGAGCAGCAAGUUGUUGAUCCUGAUAUUCACUUCAAUUACAUUAAAGCAGCAGCUAAAACUGGACAAAUUAAGGUGUAGAGAAUGUGACAUGGGAAUCAAUUAAUGUUUUAUUGAGUGAGGGAAGCAAAGACAUAAAUGUGUGUAAUGCUCUGCAGUGCAAGUUCUUAUGAUUGCUGAUUUCCGCCAUUAGUUGAUUGAGCUCCUUCAACAGAUUGUGCUGCACAAUUCUGCCUUUGGUUGAAACUUCGAUCAGCCAAUUUAGGGUGCUUUCUUAUGUAAAAUAAGAUAGCAACUUUUUGUCAGAAAAUUCUGCUCUAUAUAUAAACCAGAAACAAUUUACUUUCAUUCACAUGAUGUAUCUGAGUUUAGUCUCAUUAUUGUUUCAAUGAUUGUUAAUUAACCAUUUAUUUAUUCGGGUUUACUAGAAUUUGUAUUGACACAUAACGUUGACUGAUCGAUCUACUUUGAUUGGAUUGUUUUUAUUAUACUAAAAAAAAAUGAUUCAGUUUAGUUUACCAAUUACAUACAUAAUAGUUUACCAUCUUUUAAAUGUACAGGUUGGUAUGUAACGAUUUAAAUGAUUAGGUUGGUAUAGUUUACCAUCUUUUAUAUAGUUUUGAAUAUUUUGUGCAAAUUCAAAACCUUGAUGUUUCUGCUGGCUACCAAAACAGACAGUUAAAAAACAUGGAAUGUAGUUUUUUUCGUCUUCCUUGAGGACAAGGAAAUAUAUUUGGCUCAAAUUCAUUACAUGAAAGUUAAUGAACUCUGUUAUUGUUGAAAGUAGAAGAUUGGGUUACAAGUAAAUGUAACAAGUAGCAGAUAAAUUGUUGAUUAAAACAAGUGUGUUGUUAUUCCGGUCAAUAUCCAAUCUUUUAUUUUUAUGAUCAGUAUUUAAUGUUCUAUCUGCAUGUGAUCCUUUGAGUUUGAAUAUUAUCUUAGCUUACUCUUAUAUUAUGCUAAAACUCAACUGAAACUGAAAGAUACUAAAUUCCAUUCCGAAUUUUAUUCUCAAGAGUGCAUCGCAGCAAUAUCCUAAUGACAAACUGACCAAUUGCAAGAAAACCAAAGAGUUAAUGUUUUCUCCUCCAAAACUCCACCACCUCGAAACUCGAAUUAACCUGGUGGAGUUCCAAACAUGAAUUUUACCUGCAUUAUGAAAUACCGUCUGUACUUCUAACCAACCGGUUAUCUUCGCCCAAACCCUAGAAAAAAACGGACACUCAAAAUAAAUGUCGAACUGAAGGUGAAAAACACAAGAAGGGGGGGUUGAAUUGUGUUUUCUUUUUCUCUUAAAAAAUACUUCUUCUGAUAAAACUUCAGAAGCAGUUUGAUUGCUUCUGAUGAAAUGAUCAGAGUCAGAUUGCAGCGGAAAAGAACAGAGCAGAGAAAAGAAAGACAAAGACACAAGCAGUUAUCCUGGUUCCUUCCACAACACGGAAGUAGUCCAGUCCCCCUUGCACUUCCAAGGAGAUUUCACUAUAAUCACAAAGAUUACAACUGCUCAAUACUUUCUAAGUAUGAGACUUCACAAAACUAUGCUCAAGCACACACGCAAGAGUCUUCCAAUGCUCAAGCACUAAGCAAGAGACUUCUAAUGCUCAAGCACGCAGGCGAGAGACUUCUAAUCAAACAAAAAUACAGAGAAUUGAGUUUGAAUUGAACACUUGAUAUACAAUCAGUGGUGUUCACAAUACAAUACAGAAAAGACUCUAGACUUUGAAUUUCUAAGAUGUAUCAAAUCAGUGCAGAAAUUCAGUGUGCUUUGUAGAAUCAAAUUGACAGAGUUUUGGCGCUUUUUUUAACUUAUGUAUUUCUCUCUUUUAUCUUCAAGUCUUCACUCCUUUUUAUAGAGGCGUGAAAGAGACGUUGAGAUAAUCAGCACGUCUAAAGAGUCGUUUGAAAUCCUUUGAUUAUCCACCAGUGAUCCUUUGCCUGAUUUGGGUGUAGUCCUUUGAAGAAUAAACUUCAAAUUCCUUCCCAUCUUGAGUGUACAAUUCUGCAGGCAUGGCUGUUGUUUUGUCUUGUAGCGUAGACAGAAAACAGAGUAGUGGAGGUAGUGGUUGUACACUUGUACUUUGUCAACUCUAUUAACGAGAGACAAGAGCUUAGUGCUAUCCAUAUAUCCGUUGAUACCUCCCUUUCAAUUCUUCGUUCUUCUUUGAUAAGACUGAAUUGAAAAUCAGCUACUUUGAAUCUUCAGUUUGAUUAAAGGAUCAAAUGUAGCUUCUGGUGAAGAUAUUGAUUCUGAUGAAAACUUUUGCUUCUGAUGACUUUCUGCUUCUGAUGACGUCAUCUCUUCAGGAGCAGUUUAGCUUCAGGAGCAGUUUUCUUCAGAUGCUCAGAAUUUCUUUUUCUUUCCAUUGUUCUUCCAAGACCUAUUGAAAUGACUUGAGUAGCCUUUGGUCCUGUACACUUGAACAAUUAUUAGUAAUAACCAAUUGACAAUUUUUAAUACCUUGUUAUCAUCAAAACUCAAUAAGGUUCAUUGUGAAACACAUUUUGUUCCAACAAUCUCCCCCUUUUUGAUGAUGACAAACAAUAGUAUUUAAAAUGUUCAAUUGUUGUUGAUCUAAUUAAUAAGUUGACUACUGGGACAGAGGUUUGUAAGCUCCCCCUGAGUCUAAUAGAUCUUUAAGGUGAGGUUUGUAAGCUCCCCCUAAGUUCUAUUCUUAUUAAUUAAAUUUCAAUAAAAUACUUAUAAAAUCAAAUCAGAAGUAUUUAAAAGAAAUUUAGAGUAGGGCUCAGUGCCUUAAAAAAUACUAUACAUUUACUCCCCCUUUUGUCAUCAACAAAAAAGAAUAGAAACAAAAGAAAGAGUAUCAGAGCAAACAGCAUUAAAAACAGUAAAUAUCAUCAGAGUUAAAGCUUGUAAAACAUAUUGAAGGUGAAAAAGCACAAGAUCCAGAAACAAUGAUAAUAUAUAUAAAGAAAGAUUAAGAUACAAAGACACAGCUACUAAGAACAAAAGUAAAAAACAAGCUAGAGUUGGGUGUGCAACUAAGGUUGGGCUUGCUUAUACAACUGUUCUAAGAGAUACUUGAUCUGAUCAUCCUUCUUCUGAAGUAGCUCAUCCUUUUCCCUCAUUCUUCUUUUAUAUCCAGCCUGAAUUCUAGCAGCCCUAGUGAUGUACUCUUCUUCUGGAUAGAAAGGAGUAAUGUCCAGCAGAGGCACAAAAUUCAGCUCUUUCUCCUUAGCUGCUUCAUGCAUAUCUUCCAAAAGCUUCUUCAGCAUAGCAGAGUGAGAUGACACACAUUUAGUUCUAAGCUGAUCCAGCAGCUCAUCAAAGCUCUUCUGUAGAUCCAUCCACUGAUCAUAAUAGUGAAUAGGAGGUGCAGGAACUGUUCUGCGAAGAAUCAGUGCCUGAAUCUCAUCACUAAGUCUGAUCAGUUGUUCCUCUAUAUACUCAGACUCCAGGAUAUGGUCAGGGAUGGGUGAAGGUUCAGUUUGAGUUGUAUUUGAUGUGGAAGGUUGGUCAGAGGUUAAGUCUAUUAUAGUGGGUGAGUCUGGUUGUUGUUGUUGUUCUGUUGUUUGGUCAGAAGUUGUUUGGUCAGGAGCAACUUGUUCAGAAGCAGUUUGCUCCUGAACAGUUUGCUCAGGGAUGGUUUGGGUUUCUGUUUGGGUUUCCAAGACAGUCUUCUCAGAAACUGUCUUAGAGGCCUUAGUGGGUGUUGGUUGCAUUUCACCACCUAGAUGUUUUUCUAAGUUGUGAAGGGUUGAGGAUUCUUGGUGUUGGGGGGUUUCUGAAGUAGUUGCAUCUGAAACUACUUCAGAGGCCCUUUGUGGAGUUUGGUUAGGUUCUUGGUUGGGUUCAGGUUGUUGUAUACUAACAGGCUCUGGAAUAUCUGGAUAUAGUGGAUGAGUAGUAGGCAAAUUGAAUUUCUCACAAAGUUUUAUCCUAUUUUUUGAAAAUUCUAUUUGAGUACUCUCAUAGUCAAGUGUUCCAAAUUCUGUUAGUUUGGUAGGUUUGGUUUUUAGAAGCUUGUCUAUAUGUUGGCUAAGGGGUUGGUCAUCUGAUUCUGUGGAUGAUGAAGAGGGUGAAGAGGGUAGAGAUAGAGACUGAGUAUUAGUUGGAGCUUUAGAUGGAUUACCUGAGGACUGAGCUUCUGGAGCCUUUGAAACUGGUUCUGAUGAAGUUGUUCCUGAAGCUUGCUUAUUCUUCAAGGCUUGAGAAAGCAGAGUUGCUCCAUACUGAACUGUUUCUUGCUCUAACUCAGAAGCUAAAGCAGCAAUGUCAGGAGUAGGCACAUACCCUGCAGCCUUGAGACGCUCAUCCCUUUCUUUUUCAUACAAAAUCUUCAUCCUUUUCUUUUCUGCUAUCUUGGAUGCAGAAACCUCCCUAGUAUACUGCCUCAUUUCUUCAGUCAUUUCAAAACUGGGCAUGACUAUGGGCUCAGAAGUUGCAGUCCUUUUUGCCUUCUUGGGGCUUGAGUCUUCAUCCCAGUUCUCUUCCAGUUCUUUCAACAUUUCUUCCCUUCUUCCUUCAGCUGUCUUCAGAUUUCUUGUUAAAUUAGACCUCUUCCUUUUGAUGGUCUGAAGAGCAGCUUCUCUUUUAUUUUUGGGACUUGAAGGCUUUUCAGAAGCAGCUUGAUCAGAAGCAGCUUGUUCAGAACCAGCUUGUUCAGAAGCAGGCUGUUCUGCUGUUUCUUGAGUACUCCUUGUCCUUUUUCUGAUAAGAGGGACAUCAUCCAAAUCCUCCACUUCCUCAAGAAUGGUGGACAUAGCAGAUUUUUCCUUCUUAGCUUUCUUAUGCUUCUGAGCACCCACCUCAGUAGCAUCUUCAGCAAGGUAUUCUUCCUUGGUGAUCUGCUUCUUUUUAGAUUUUCUGCCUUUGGCCACAGGCAGAUCACCACCAUACAUUUCUUCUGGGAUAUCUUUCAGGCUGAUUUUCUUGUUGUAGCUCUUGUAGUAGUCUAAGAUGUAGGCCCUCUGCACAUCCAGGGGAUCUUUCUUGCAGAUAGGGAUGUGAUGAGUGACUAGAUCAGAUAUGACAUCAGAUUCAUGCAUAUCUGUAUCUAGUUUCCUGCAUGUUGAAAUCAGCCUCAUCUUGACUAGAGUUGCCCCAUUGAUUAUUUUUCCUGUGACUGCUCCCAGCUUCUGAUUAUCAUAAAUACCCACGUCUUUCAGGGCACUUAGGAGUCCUCCUUCUUGAAAGAUUAUGGAGAGCAGCCUUCCAUAGGGAACAAACUUCCUGUUCUCCAUCUGGCUCUUCUUGAGUUCCUUGAUCAUGUAUUUAAACAUAUACUUGGGAACGUUCAUUGUUGUUUCCUGAGAGAUGGUGUGAUGCAGAAAGACUUUGUGACCAAGUGAAGGUUGAUCAUUUCCUCCACCUUUGGGAAAAAUGUUUUCAUUCUGGAUCUUCAGCAGCAUUUUCUUUUCCAUGCUUAAGGUGCUGUAAGGCUUAGCAUCCUUUGAUCCGUAGAUAGUGUUGUUUACUAUCUCCUUCCAUGGGCUUGUUCUGGGGUUAGGAAUCUCUUCUCCAUCGUAUGUCCCAGAAGCAUCUCUCCUCAUAGCUUGAGCAAUCACUUGCUCAUUGAUUGUUACAGGAAUCCCCAUGACGUUUGAUCUAAUCUCAGUCCCAGUGAAGGCGAGUAGACCCAUUUCUUCUCUGGUUUUUCCCUCCAAAGUAGGAUCAACCAGAAUCAUCUGAGCUUCUUCCUGUUUAGCAGCAACUUUGUCAAACACUGAAGCUCUUACCCAGAAUUGUCUGACAAGCACUUCAUAAGUAGGACCGUUGAGAAGACUGAAGUAACUCAUUAGCUUCUGCUUCUUGUAGAAUCUUACCAAGUCGCAUCCAUGAUGAGUUAGAGAAGUGAAAUCCACAGGAUUUUCCGCUUGAAUGAUUAGCUCCCAUUCCUCAAUAGACAUAGUUCUUCCUUUGAUUUCAUAAGCAGGAGUAUCUAUAUCCAUAUUCGAUGAAGAACCACCGGCAGAACUUGAAGAUGCCAUUGAUUUGAAGUAGAAUUAGGGUUCUAAGGUGUUUUGAGAGGUUGAGAGAAUGUGCUUACUUACACAGAGGGUUGAGAAGAAAUUAGAAAGUGUUUGUUGUGAAGUGAGAAGUGUGUGAAAUGACUUAGUGUUUUUAUUAAAACGUUUGUAAUUCAGAGGGGACAAACAAACACAGCAUUAAUGACAAAUUGGGGGCGCGUGUAAGUAUGUUAAAAAGCGAAUAAAAACAUCAUUGCCCUUUUUGUUAUACUCCAAUACAAAUAGACCACGUCAGAGACUCUUCAGAAAACUACCUUUUGGGUAAUGGGACAGCUGUUACAUAAAGUAACUGCCAACGUUCCCACUAGCCAAGCUAUUCAGAAGCAAAGAAUAACACUUCUGAAGUUUUAGUGCUGACGUCAUCUUCAGAAGCACAUUUUCCUCAGAACCUCAGUUAAGAGCUUCUGAUGAACCAAAAUGCUUCUGAAUAAACUUCAGAACCAAACUUCUUAUUCAGAGGCAAGCAAUUUUUCAAUCAGACACAAAAUGCAUGUUCAAAUUUUUCUUAAUAAAAUCAAAUCUUUCAACAGACAAAGGUUUUGUAAAUAUAUCAGCCCAUUGAUGUUCAGUAUCAAUGAAUUGUAUAUCUAAAAUCCCUUUUUGAACAUAGUCUCUGAUAAAAUGGUGUUUGAUUUCAAUAUGCUUGGCUCUUGAAUGUAGAAUUGGAUUCUUUGACAAACAAAUAGCAGCAGUAUUAUCACAGUAAAUGGGAAUACUGUUAGCAUUAAUCUGAUAGUCUUCCAACUGAUGUUUCAUCCAAAGUAGUUGUGUGCAACAACUUGCAGCUGAAAUGUACUCUGCUUCUGCUGUAGACAUAGCAAUAGUUGCUUGUCUUUUGCUUGCCCAGGAUAUCAGAUUCUUUCCCAGGAAUUGACAAUUUCCACUGGUUGAUUUUCUUUCAAUCCUAUCACCAGCAUAAUCAGCAUCACAGAAUCCAAUCAACUUAUAAUCUAGGGAUUUCCUAUACAGGAGUCCAAGAUUAGUUGUUCCUUUCAGAUACCUGAAGAUUCUCUUAACUGCAGUUAAAUGAGAUUCUCUAGGAUCUGAUUGAAAUCUUGCACACAAGCAUACACUGAAUAAAAUAUCAGGUCUAGAUGCAGUGAGGUAUAACAGAGAACCAAUCAUACCUCUGUAUAGCUUCUGGUCUACUACUGUUCCAGUAUCUUCUUUGCUUAAGGUGCAGGUUGGAUGCAUUGGAGUGUUCAUCACUUUACAAUCUUCUAGCUUGAACUUCUUCAGAAGCUCCUUUGUAUAUUUUGUUUGAUGAACAUAUACUCCUUCUUUACUUUGGUUGAUUUGAAUUCCCAGAAAGAAUUUCAAUUCUCCCAUCAUACUCAUUUCAAAUUCAUCCUGCAUUAACUUAGAAAAUUCUUUGCAAAGAGAUGCAUUAGUAGAACCAAAUAUUAUAUCAUCAACAUAUAUUUGCACAAUCAAAAUAUCUUUCUUAAGAGUCCUUCUGAAGAGUGUUGUGUCAACUUGUCCUCUUUCAAAAUCAUUUUUAAUUAAGAAAUUACUUAGUCUAUCAUACCAAGCUCUGGGAGCUUGUUUCAAGCCAUAUAGUGAUUUCUUAAGUUUAUAAACAUGGUCAGGAUGCUUAAGAUCCUCAAACCCAGGAGGUUGUUUAACAUACACUUCUUCUUCAAUGACACCAUUAAGAAAGGCACUUUUGACAUCCAUUUGAUAUAAUAUUAUGCCAUGAUUAAUUGCGUAGGAUAGAAGUAACCUGAUUGCUUCCAAUCUUGCAACUGGAGCAAAUGUUUCAGUGUAAUCAAUGCCUUCUUGUUGACUGUAGCCUUGAGCAACAAGUCUGGCUUUGUUUCUGGUUACUUCUCCUUGUUCAUUCAGCUUGUUUCUGAAUACCCAUUUUGUUCCAAUAAUGUUCUUCUGAGAAGGUUUGGGUACCAGAUCCCACACAUCAUUCCUUUGGAAUUGAUUUAGCUCUUCUUGCAUAGCUAAUAUCCAUCCAUCAUCUGAGAGAGCUUCUUCAACAGUUUUAGGCUCAAUUAUUGAAAGCAGUCCUAUUAAUGACUCUUCUUGUCUAAAAUGUGAUCUAGUUCUUCUAGGACUAUCUUUGCUUCCAAUGAUUAGCUCCUCAGGAUGUGAAGAUUUGUGCUUGAAUUUAGGUUGUAUAACCUGCUGAGUGUUAUCUAGAAAGUCCUCAGAAGCAAUUUCAUUCUGUACUUUUGAGCUAGGUUCUGCUUCUGAAUUAGACUCAGCUUCUGGAGUGAUUUCAGCUUCUGGACUAGAUUCAACUUCUGUAUACUUUUCAGAAUCAGAAGGUUGAUCAGAUUCUGAUGCAUCUUCAGAAUCAGUUGUACCUGCAUUACUUUCACUUUGCUCUGAAGUUUUACUUCCAGGCUCUCUAUCAUCAAAUUUUACAUGCAUAGAUUCUUCAACACAUUGUGUUUCUGAAUUAUACACUCUGUAUGCCUUUGACCUUUCAGAGUAACCUAAAAAGAUUCCUCUUUGAGCCUUGGCAUCAAAUUUCUUCAGAUAGUCUUUAGUGUUUAAGAUGUAACAGGUACAUCCAAACUGAUGAAAGUAAGAGAUAUUGGGUCUUCUUCCUUUAAAGAGUUCAUAUGCUGUUUUCUCCAACAUAGGUCUGAUAUAGAUCCUAUUUUGAAUAUAACAUGAAGUAUUGACUGCUUCUGCCCAAAAAUGUUUAGCUAAGUUGUUUUCAUGGAUCAUGGUUCUGGCCAUUUCUUGUAAAGUUCUGUUCUUUCUCUCUACAACUCCAUUUUGUUGUGGAGUUCUAGGAGAGGAAAACUCAUGGAGAAUCCCAUGUUUUUCACAAAAAAGUUCAAAUGGCUCAUUUUCAAAUUCUCCACCAUGAUCACUUCUGACUUUCAAAAUUUUCAAUUCUUUUUCAGAUUGUAUUUGAGUGCAGAAGCUGCUAAACACUUCACAUGCAUAGUCUUUACUUUUAAUGAAUUUUACCCAAGUCCAUCUGCUGUAAUCAUCAACAAUGACUAAUCCAUAUUUACUUCCAUAUAAGGAUGCAGUGUUAACUGGACCAAAAAGAUCAAUAUGGAGUAAUUCUAAGGGUCUGGAGGUUGAUACAAUGUCUUUAGAUUUGAACGAACUUUUCACAAUUUUCCCUUUCUGACAUGCACCACAAAGUGCAUCUGAAUGAUAAUCAAUGUUAGGCAAUCCUUUGACCAGUUGUAACUUGCUAAUUUUAGAAAUUAAUCUCCAAUUAGCAUGUCCCAACCUUUUAUGCCAUACCCAUUUUUUAUCAUUCAUUGACAGAAGGCAAACUACCUUCUGAUCAGCCAGAUCAGAGAAAUUUAUUUUAUAGACAUUCUCAACUCUCUUUCCCUUGAAUGUAAUGGAUUUGUCAUCCUUGUUAACUAGUGUGCAGUUGGUCUUACUGAACGUUACAUCAUACCCAUUGUCACAAAAUUGACUUAUGCUCAAUAGGUUAUGCUUCAGACCAUCUACUAGCCACACAUUAUUAAUUGAGAUGGAGGAAUUACCAAUAGUACCUGUACCAAUGAUCUUUCCAGUUUGGUUGCCACCAAACUUCACUUCUCCUCCAUCUUUCAUUGUAAGGGUAAGGAACAAAGCUUUCUCUCCAGUCAUGUGCCUUGAACAUCCGCUGUCUAGGUACCAUGACCUUUGUUUCUCUCUUGCCCUUAAGCACACCUGCAUUUUUGGCCAAUUCAGAUUUAGGUACCCAUAUCUUCAUGGGUCCUUUUGGGUUAGCUUUGGAGGUUUUACUUUUCCUCCCUUGUACCUUAGGGUGAAUGCUGAGUGGCUUCUGAUCAUUCAAUACUUUAGGUUUGACACCUUUUGGUAUUGUUUUCUCAGAAGCAGUAGCUGCUUUGUUCUUCUGAUCCUUUUGUUUUGGAAUUUUAGAUUCUGGUUUAAUCAGAUUCUGAUGAACAGGUUCUGAUCUUUUCAGAAUUUUAAUCUUUUGACUCUUAGGAUCAGAUUUUGUCAUUACCUUGAUCUUAAGAUUCUCUGGCUUUGAUGUGAUCUUAGCCUGUGAACCUGAAGCUUCAGGUUUUGACUGAACAUCAGUUAUAGCAUUUGUACCUUCAGGCACAAAGGUGGAUUUCAAUCCAUCCUUGAUACAAUCACAGUAGCUCUUGAGACUGUAUUCUUUGGAUUUCUCCUCAGAAUAUCCAAUCCCUUUGCCUUUGUUCUUGUAUGUGCUGUAGAUCAUAGAAGCAACUUUGCUUCUGUCUAUUCCAGCCAUAAUAAAAUCAUCCAAGGCAAUCUCAUGUUUAUUGCCUGAACCUUUAUCACAUUUUUCUUGUAGCUUCUGACAAAGACUCUUGAGUCUAUCUUCAUAUGUUGUUGAUAUGAGGUUAAACCCUUUGAGUUCUUCUUCAGAAGCUUUCAGUUCCAAUAGAGUUGACUUUUGUUGUUUCAUCAAAUCAACAUAUUUUUCUUUUAAAUCUGUCAACUCAUUGGUUCUGUGUUCAAACAGUGAUAAAAGUUCUUUUAGAGAAUCAACAAGUUCUUGUCUAGGGAUUUUGGAAUAUACCUCAUUUUCAUCUUCUGAAUCUGAUUCAGCUUCUGAUACUGCUUCUGAUGAUACUGUUGCCACUAACCCAACAGCUGCCUUAGCAUCAUCAUCAGCUUCUUCUUUAUCAGAACCAGAUUCACUAUCCAAAUCUUCCCAGGUCGCCAUCAAGCUCUUUUUGAUUUGCUUUCUGAAUUUACUGGAAUUGAAGCUUGAUUUCUUGGAUUUGCCUUUAAACUUCUCCUUCUGAAGAUCAGGGCAAUCAGCAAUGAAAUGACCAGGCUUCUUACAAUUGAAGCAUCCCUUCUGAUCUUCUUUCUUGGAGUUCUUGUAGCUACCUCUCUUGCUCAAAAAUUUCUUCUGCUUCCUUGCCAGAUACUCAAGCUUGUUGGACAACAUAGCCAUUUUUACAGAUUGAUCUUCAUCAGAAUCUCCAUCAGGUGAUUCUUCUUCAGAUUCACUGGCUUUGUAGGCUUUGGAAGAUUUUGAGAUCUUUCCUUUAGAUGGUAAAGCAAUGGAUUUACUCUUCUUAGAGGUUUCAUGCUCAUUUAAACUCAUUUCAUGCACUUUGAGUGAGCUAACAAGAUCUUCAACACUUAAAGUAUUUAGAUCCUUAGCUUCCUCAAUAGCAGUUACUUUGGGUCUCCAUCUUGAAGGUAAGCUUCUCAAAAUCUUACUAACAUGAUCAGAAGCAACAUAGCUUUUCUUCAGUAUUUGCAAUCCAGAAACUAAAGUUUGAAAUCUUGAGUACAUUUCUUCUAUACUCUCAUCAUCCUUCAUUCUGAAAAGUUCAUACUGAUGAACUAGCAUCAAAGCUUUAGCCUCUUUUACUUUCUUGCUGCCUUCAAAGUUUGCACAUAGAGAAGCAAACAUAGCCUUCGCAGUAGAUUUGUCACUCAUUUUCAUGUAUUCGGUGCGAGGUAUAGAAGCCACAAUAAUCCCUCUGAUUUUGUGGUGCUUCUUGUAAAGCUUCUUCUGAGCAGGAGUAUGUAUUUUUCUAUCUAUAGCAGCUCCUUCUUCAUCUAAAUCCAGGUCAUCAACUCCAUCUUCCAGUAUGUCCCAUAACUCUUCAUCUAAUCCCAUGAUAAAGCUGUACAUAUUAGUUUUCCACCAAGAAAACUCUUCUGGAUCUCCAUUAAACCUUGGAGCUUUUCCAGAGUCUGUUUUCUUGUCAGCAGUAUCAUAGUCAUGCUUGACGCUUGUGUAUUUUGGAGUAACUGAUUCCUCAUCUCCAGACAUGUUUUUCUAAUAGAUCUUGAACUGUAACACGGUUAAGUGCUGUGAUAACAGAGCAAGCUCUGAUACCAAUUGAAGGUGAAAAACACAAGAAGGGGGGGUUGAAUUGUGUUUUCUUUUUCUCUUAAAAAAUACUUCUUCUGAUAAAACUUCAGAAGCAGUUUGAUUGCUUCUGAUGAAAUGAUCAGAGUCAGAUUGCAGCGGAAAAGAACAGAGCAGAGAAAAGAAAGACAAAGACACAAGCAGUUAUCCUGGUUCCUUCCACAACACGGAAGUAGUCCAGUCCCCCUUGCACUUCCAAGGAGAUUUCACUAUAAUCACAAAGAUUACAACUGCUCAAUACUUUCUAAGUAUGAGACUUCACAAAACUAUGCUCAAGCACACACGCAAGAGUCUUCCAAUGCUCAAGCACUAAGCAAGAGACUUCUAAUGCUCAAGCACGCAGGCGAGAGACUUCUAAUCAAACAAAAAUACAGAGAAUUGAGUUUGAAUUGAACACUUGAUAUACAAUCAGUGGUGUUCACAAUACAAUACAGAAAAGACUCUAGACUUUGAAUUUCUAAGAUGUAUCAAAUCAGUGCAGAAAUUCAGUGUGCUUUGUAGAAUCAAAUUGACAGAGUUUUGGCGCUUUUUUUAACUUAUGUAUUUCUCUCUUUUAUCUUCAAGUCUUCACUCCUUUUUAUAGAGGCGUGAAAGAGACGUUGAGAUAAUCAGCACGUCUAAAGAGUCGUUUGAAAUCCUUUGAUUAUCCACCAGUGAUCCUUUGCCUGAUUUGGGUGUAGUCCUUUGAAGAAUAAACUUCAAAUUCCUUCCCAUCUUGAGUGUACAAUUCUGCAGGCAUGGCUGUUGUUUUGUCUUGUAGCGUAGACAGAAAACAGAGUAGUGGAGGUAGUGGUUGUACACUUGUACUUUGUCAACUCUAUUAACGAGAGACAAGAGCUUAGUGCUAUCCAUAUAUCCGUUGAUACCUCCCUUUCAAUUCUUCGUUCUUCUUUGAUAAGACUGAAUUGAAAAUCAGCUACUUUGAAUCUUCAGUUUGAUUAAAGGAUCAAAUGUAGCUUCUGGUGAAGAUAUUGAUUCUGAUGAAAACUUUUGCUUCUGAUGACUUUCUGCUUCUGAUGACGUCAUCUCUUCAGGAGCAGUUUAGCUUCAGGAGCAGUUUUCUUCAGAUGCUCAGAAUUUCUUUUUCUUUCCAUUGUUCUUCCAAGACCUAUUGAAAUGACUUGAGUAGCCUUUGGUCCUGUACACUUGAACAAUUAUUAGUAAUAACCAAUUGACAAUUUUUAAUACCUUGUUAUCAUCAAAACUCAAUAAGGUUCAUUGUGAAACACAUUUUGUUCCAACAGAACUGUUUUUUCAAUAUCAUACCCACCAAUACAAAACUGAGCUUCACUACUUAAGAUCCCUAUUCUGUAAAACUUGUCAAACAAACAAUAUUACCUUCAGUGAAGUGAACACACAGUGUAAGCUGAUGGUCCUCCUUCCACACCCCCAAAUUAAUUUCUUGUAUCAAAUGACAAAUUGGGCAGGAGUCAGAAUUUACCAAAUUGAGAAUACUAACGUAGAGCUGCACUAAUAUAUUUACAUUACAGAAUACUAAUGUAUCCAAUUAGUAACACUGCAUAUUCUCUAAUAUAUUCACAAUGUAGGAAGUAAGGAAUAUGGAACACAAGAAGAUACAUUUUGGCAAUACUUUAGUAUCUCUGAUAUGUCUUGGAGAAUACAUUUUGUGAUCAAUGGAUUGGAAAUUACUUUCAGUGAGAUCAUUUUGGGUCUUGUAUUUGAUACAUUCUGCAUAAUAAAGAUACUAGUGCGAGUGUCACAUUUUAUUUUGAUUUGUAUUAAGACAUUGAAAAUUGGCAGUCAUAAAUUUUCUUUGUAUAUGACUGGAGAUUGAGUACCAACUAAGUUAUAGUGUUUCAUUGAUUAAAUAAUCAAUAACUUUUUUUUUUGGUCAGGUAAAAUAAUCAAGGGUUAAUUAAGUUUUUAGUCCCUAUAAAUAUUCACAGUUUUGUUUUUAGUCCCUACAAAAUAAAAUCAUACUUUUUAGUCCUUAUAAAAUUUUCCAUCAACAUUUUUAGUCCCUAUAAAAUUUUCCAUCAGCAUUUUUAGUCCCUAUAAAAUUUUUCCAUCAGCAUUUUUAGGCCCUAAAAUGCUUAAGGAAAAUGUCACAAGGACUAAAAAAUGUGAUUUUAUUUUAUAAGGACUAAAAACAAAACUGUGAAUAUUUAUAGGGACUAAAAACUUAAUUAUACAUUUUACUUUUUUUGUGAGUGCUUAAAUCUUGUGACCAUAAUAAUACUCUCACCACUAAAUGCAUUAAACAAUAAAACAAGUGUGGACCCACAAAGAGCUGGCUAUCGUUUUUUAUGCUUAAUCAAACGCUUCCCAACAAUUGUACCAGCUAGUGGUGACUAUAUAUAUUAAAAAAUGUUGAUGUAAAAUAUACAAUAAAAGAGACAAAAAGUCAGUCAAUAAAAGAAACUCACCAUACAUUUCAUUUUUUUUAUUCAACUCAUCACAGUCCACCCUCUUCCAUUUUCAUUCAACCACGUUAGAUCAAUCUAAAUAAUGGCUGAGGCCUUACUUGGUGAUGCGUUUGAUAAUUUAUUGUCUCUUGUUCAAAAUGAAUUUGCAGUCAUUUCUAGAAUCAAGUUCUACUCCAAGAUAUAUUGGGUCAUCUGCUAUUAGGUUUUUCGUAAUCGGAUCAUCCAUCAUUUAUGUCUACGACUGGUUUGUAAGGUGAUACCAUCUUAUAUAUCCACCCACUAUUUAUGUCCAUGAACUAAACUCAAUAGUGUUGGUCGUGAGAGGGUGUAUCACCUUACAACCCGGUAUUGUGGGGUUGCGCCCACAUUGUAAUACUACUUUAAUCAAUAAUGAAAAGCUAUAAACUUAUUUCUUUAAAAAAAAAAUGAGUGAUGAGGUGUCGACGAAAAAAUUUGGGGUCUAAUUUAAUAAAGAUAAUAGAGAGAUAAACAGAUCCUUUAAAAAAAAAAAAUAGAUAAAACUUGUUCCAGAAAUGCACAAAAUUAAAUUAAAGGUAUAAAACAAAUUACAUGUAGCCUGAGUUAGUAUGAUUGAACAAAGUUUGAUAUUUCUUUUAAGAGUUUUAUUGAACUGAGCCCAAGCUAGUAUGUAAUUAAAAUACCAAUGACAUGAGAUUUCAAAAACAAAUAUCAGUGAAUGACCAUCUUAAACCAGAACUGGAAUGAAAUUUUACAUUUAAUCAAAUAAAUAGAAUGUAAAACAAAUACAUAUGACAUCAUAACUGUCCCAAAAGAUACCUCAAAUUUAUUAUAAAGUAAAUUUUAUUAGUGUUCAUGUAUGAAAACAAAGAAAUUAAAUAAAAUUCUUUCCAACAAUUAUACAUGCCAGUAGGGACACCCCAUCUCUUAAUGGACCCCGAUCAAUAAUAAUGGAACCUUGCAAGCAAGUUGCAUAAAUUUGUGGUUAAAAAUAUGCCUACUUGAAUGUUUGCUCACAAUUAUUGAUCACCUAGUUGCCGACUUCCUACUACCAUUGCAUUUAUUCUCAAAGUUCUUCAUUCUGUUUACUUUUAACACUCAGUCAAUCUAAAACCAAUUUCUCAUUUACUUAUCUUUUCAACUCUUUCUUUUACCAAAAAAUGGCUGAUGCGUUGAUCGGAGUUGUGUUUGAUAACUUGAAGUCUCUCCUACAAAAUGAAUUUGCAACCAUUUCUGGAAUCAAGUCAAAGGCUCAAAAGCUGUCAGACACCUUAGAUAUGAUCAAAGCCGUUCUUGAAGAUGCUGAGAAGAAACAAGUCACAGACUGCUCUAUUAAGGUAUGGCUGCAACAACUCAAAGAUGUUGUUUAUGUGCUCGAUGAUAUCCUUGAUGAGUGCUCGAUCAAGUCUAGUCGACUGAGAGGAUUAACCUCUCUCAAGUUUCGCCAUGAGAUCGGUAACAGGUUGGAAGAGAUUAACGGGAGGUUGGAUGAUAUUGCUGAUAGGAGGAAGAAGUUUUUUCUGCAGGAAGGUACUGGAACUGUUCGGGAAAGCCCAAAUGACGUAGCUGAAUGGCGUCAAACCAGCGCUAUUAUUACUGAACCAAAAGUGUUUGGACGAGAAGACGAUAAAAAGAAGAUUAUCCAGUUUCUUCUCACCCAAGCAAAGGACUCCGACUUCCUUUCCAUCUAUCCCGUUUUUGGGUUAGGUGGUCUUGGAAAAACCACUCUUCUUCAAUCGGUCUACAAUGAUGUUACCGUGAGUAGCAAUUUUAAUACUAAAGUUUGGGUUUGUGUUUCUGAGAAUUUCUCUGUCAACAGGAUUUUGUGUUCCAUUAUACAAUUUAUCACAGAAAAGAAGUAUGAUGGCUUUGAUUUAAAUGUAACACAGAAAAAGGUGCAGGAAUUGUUACAAGGUAAAAUAUAUUUGCUAGUUUUGGAUGAUGUGUGGAAUCAAAAUGAACAAUUGGAAUCAGGGUUAACACGAGAGAAAUGGAACACAUUGAAAUCUGUGUUGUCAUGUGGAUCCAAAGGUAGUUCCAUUUUAGUAUCCACUCGUGAUGAGGUUGUUGCAACAAUCACAAAAACAAGGGAAACUCACCGUUUAUCUGGUCUCUCCGAGGAUGAAUGUUGGUUGUUGUUCAAACAAUAUGCAUUUGGACAUUAUAGAGAAGAGAGUACAAAGCUUGUGAAAAUAGGAAAGGAGAUUGUAAAGAAAUGUAAUGGAUUGCCUCUUGCAGCGAAAGCAUUGGGAGGUUUAAUGAGCUCAAGGAAUGAAGAAGAGGAAUGGCUUGAAAUUAAAGAUAGCGAGCUUUGGGCCUUGCCACAAGAAAUUUUGCCUGCUUUGAGGUUGAGUUACUUUUAUUUAACACCAACUCUAAAACAAUGUUUCUCUUUUUGUGCUAUAUUUCCCAAAGAUGGAGAAAUCCUGAAGGAAGAAUUGAUUCAGCUCUGAAUGGCUAAUGGAUUUAUUGCAAAGAGGAAAUUAGAGGUUGAAGAUGUUGGAAACAUGGUUUGGAAGGAAUUGUACCAAAAAUCAUUUUUUCAAGACAGCAAAAUGGAUGAAUAUUCUGGAGACAUUUCUUUCAAGAUGCAUGAUCUUGUCCAUGAUCUCGCUCAAUCAGUAAUGGGGCCAGAAUGUAUGUAUUUGGAGAACAAAAACAUGACCAGUUUGUCAAAAAGCACACACCACAUUGGUUUUGACUACAAAGACUUGUUAUCCUUUGAUAAGAAUGCUUUCAAAAAAGUUGAAUCCUUGAGAACAUUGUUUCAGUUGAGUUAUUAUGCCAAAAAAAAACAUGAUAACUUCCCAACAUACCUUUCUCUUCGGGUUUUAUGCACAUCCUUUAUCCGGAUGCCAUCACUAGGGAGUUUAAUUCAUUUAAGGUAUUUGGAACUUCGUUCUCUUGACAUCAAAAAUUUGCCUGACUCAAUUUACAACCUAAAAAAGCUGGAAAUCUUGAAAAUAAAACAUUGUCGUAAACUGAGUUGUCUCCCAAAACACUUGGCUUGCUUACAAAAUCUUAGACAUAUAGUCAUUAAAGAAUGUCGGUCUUUGUCUCUCAUGUUUCCUAACAUUGGAAAAUUAACUUGUCUAAGAACAUUAAGUGUGUAUAUUGUUAGUUUAGAGAAAGGGAAUAGCUUGACAGAGUUACGUGAUCUAAACCUCGGUGGAAAACUGAGUAUCCAACACUUAAACAAUGUUGGCAGUUUAUCUGAAGCUGAAGCGGCUAAUUUGAUGGGUAAAAAAGACCUUCAUGAAUUAUGCUUGUCAUGGAUAUCCCAACAUGAAUCUAUAAUUAGUGCUGAGCAAGUACUUGAAGUGCUUCAACCUCACUCAAAUCUCAAGUGCUUGAAAAUAAGUUUCUAUGAGGGAUUAUCCUUACCAAGUUGGAUAAUUCUUCUUAGUAAUUUAAUUUCUCUUGAACUUCGGAAUUGCAACAAAAUUGUGCGGCUUCCGUUACUUGGUAAACUACCAUAUCUAAAAAAACUGGAAUUAUUCGAAAUGGAUAAUCUGAAAUACUUGGAUGAUGAUGAAUCUGAGGAUGGUAUGGAGGUGAGGGUUUUCCCAUCUCUAGAGGUACUCCAAUUAUCUUGUCUACCAAACAUAGAGGGGUUAUUGAAAGUGGAAAGAGGGGAGAUGUUUCCUUGUCUUUCUAGUUUGGAUAUCUGGAAAUGCCCUAAACUUGGACUGCCAUGUCUUCCAUCUCUUAAAGACCUCUUUGUAUGGGAAUGUAACAAUGAGUUACUGAGGUCAAUCUCUACCUUCCGUGGUCUUACUCAGCUUAAACUAAUUCACGGUUUCGGAAUAACAUCCUUCCCAGAGGGGAUGUUCAAAAACCUUACUUCUCUUCAAUCUCUGUCUGUAAAUAGUUUCCCACAAUUGGAGUCCUUACCAGAGACAAAUUGGGAAGGUCUUCAAUCCCUUCGAUUUCUAAAGAUUCAUAGAUGUGAAGGAUUGCGAUGCUUGCCGGAGGGUAUUCGACACCUCACUUCUCUUGAGGUUUUGAAUAUUUAUAAAUGUCCAACAUUAGAGGAACGAUGCAAAGAGGGAACAGGGGAGGAUUGGGACAAGAUAGCUCAUAUUCCAAAAAGAGUGAUUUUUUAGAAUGAAGAAGGGCAGAGACGUUUACCCUUAUCUGCCUCAAUCACCAUCGCAAAAAUCAAUUUUACUGGUAGGAUCUCUAUUUCCCCCUAAAAUACACCCUUCUUAUGUUUGGAUUUUAAGUGAUUAAUUUACUCGAAUUUUAUUAAAAAAUCGUUAUAUAUUCUCAUUAUAGGAUGAUUUGCAGGCUUUUCUGUUGAGUUCUUUUGAACGCAUCCCCCAAAAGAUAUAUGUUCUAAUAUUCUAAUUCAGGUAAUUUUCUUCAUCAUAGUUUAUUUAUUUUUUUAAUUUCCUUUUUGAUUUUUGAUUUCAUUUUUAAUUUUGCUGAUUUCGUGGAGAUUGAAUUGAAUGGUUAGGAUUGCUUUCGACACACAGGGAUGGGGUCGACAGAUAAAUGGAUUAACCGGAACAAACGUACCUAAUGAUGAAGAGAACAUCUUUUGGAGUGGAGGAGGUGACAACGAGUCCAGUCGUGGCAUCGAGGAUUGCGAUUUUGAUUAUCAGGGUGUGGGUAGGAGCUCAAUGCCCAUUAGCGAGUCUGAUCAUCAAGGUUUAUUCCAUUUUUAUAAGUUUUUGUUGGUCUUCUUUAUUUAAGUUAUAUGUUGUUUGGCUUCCUCUUUGCUUAGUUUUGAUAAUAAUUUGCAGAAAUAAAAGUUUUUGAAUGUAAUUAUAUGGGUUGGUGUCAUAUCAGUAUCUAAACAUCAGACAUGUCAUCGAUGUGAAGUUUUGAGUAUAGGUGAAUGAUUGUUUGGUGCAGAACAAAGGUUGCAAUUACUUUGAUGGAUCAUUUAGGUUCGAAAAAGGCUCAUGUUUUUGGGCACUCAAUGGGUUUCUAUUUUGUGUGUUUUUUUGUCUGUUUUACUUUUUGAUUUAGUUAAAAUUCAGAUGGUCUGUCCUACGAUUUGGUUAGGUUAAGUUUUUUUGUUUGUGUUUAUUUUUAAAUAUGUUUGCCUAUUGAAACAGGAUCUAUGAUAGUUUGUAAAAUAGCAGCAACAGUUCUUGAUAGAGUUCUCUCCUUGGCUUUGCUAAAUGCAAUGAGUGGAGGUUUUCAAUGUUUUCCAGAGGUAUUGUCCCUUUCAUAAUUCUAUGAAAUGUUUUGAUUUAUUUUUACAGCACUAUGAUUAGAGCAUUGAUGACGCAAUUUUGUAAGACUUUUUGAAUAGAAACUUAGUUUAGGAUGAGUGGACUUGCAUACAUAAUAAGUAUAAUUUCUUAGUACUGAUUUUAGUUGAUCCUUUAGGAGAAAUUUAGUUGAGAAUUAUCUUUCUAUGGUUUAAGUCAGAAUUUUGUUAAGAAUUUCGUAGUACUGAAAUUUUGCUGGUACGUUAUUUGCAGAUUUUUAAGGAAUAUUGACGGGUGUCGAUGCAUGCACCAAACUCUUUGGCCAACCUGUGAAGGAUUAAACUUUUUCUUGGUUGCAUAUUUGAUCUCUAGGUAUUUCUUAAGACAGUUAUCUAGACGAACCUAUAUUGUAUGCUAGUUUUAUCUCUUCUCUGGAUCGUCUUAUCACCAUAUAUUACUUUCUAAUUUAAAUUUCUAUAUGCAGGAAUCACUUGCUUUCUCAGUUUCUAUGUGUAAUGUCUAUGGGUAAAAUUAUCAUCGACAGAACAGCAACUCCAGCAUUUUGUCACAGGCAACCUAUUAUGCUGUGUUUGUUAAUGUUACAAAUAAAAAUUCUUGGUUCAUGCUAUUAGCCAGGUGUGUAUACAGCUCUUCAUUAGGAAGGUGUCAUUGUAUUCAUGAUUCUAGUUUGACUUGGAUAUUCAUGUUAUUUAAUUAUGUUUGUGUCUGAUAGACAUGUUGUGGAAAAUAUGGAGAAGAUCUACAAAGAAAGUUUUUACGAUUUCUGAAGUUCCCCAUGAGUUGAUUGAGCUUCUACAAAAUACAACACAAUUAUGCAUUUAUUUGAAACUUCAUUCUGCGAUUUUGGUAAAAGUUCACUUGACUCCGUAUCUCAAAAUAUUCAGCUUUUCGUGGAUGAUCCAGAUGUUUGAUCACGUAAAGGUAAACCUGGGCCAUUCUUCAGUUCCUAUAAUAUUUUAACACAUAUUGUUUGUUUUCAUUUUAAAUUCAUAUAUUCAUGAAAACAUGCAGGCGAUGAUGGUCUUUCAUGUAUGAGAUGUUUAUGGAAGAGUUGGCAUUUCAAGUUUAAUCAGCCUAAACACCAAUAUUCAGAAUUGGCGAUUUUCUUAAGCAUAUUUUUGGAGUAAAGUUUGCUGCAGAAGUUUUCAAUUUCAGUUAACUGAUAGAUCUUUGCCUGUAAUGGUUGUAGAAGAUUGAGAUGCUUUCCUUAGGGUACUCGAAACCACACCUCACUUCUCUCGAGGUUCUGAAUAUUCAUCAUUCUCCAACAUUAAAGGAGCGAUGCAAGAAGGAGACAUGGGAGGAUCGGGACAAGAUAUCUCAUAUUCCGGAAUUACGCAGUUGAUUUGGUGUUUCUGCUUCUGGCUUGCCACAUUUCCACCUGAAUUGGUAGGCUCUCUAAUCUCCCUCCGUCUUUAUUUCUAUUGACUGUGUUUCUUACAGGGCAGUAACAAUUUCUUGGUAGUCUCUUUGUAGGAUAUGCCUCUCAUGUCUCUUGACUUUGGUUUCCUUGUUAUGCGACUUUAUCUUUUGGCUAUCAUAGGUAAGUUUGGAUUAUCUUAUUUCCUUACUUCUUAUCAGUGCAGUAACAUGUCCUGAAUAUCCUUUUUUUAUUUCGGGCAUUGAAAUAUAUAAUGGCAUGUUUAGCCAUUACGAAUUUAUCACUGUAACAAUAUUUCUCAACAUUUUGAAAAGGCUUGCCUCCAUUAGGGCUAUUUAGGUUGUUGGCUUCUUGAUUUUGAUGACUGACUGUAAUUUCUAGUCAGAACAAUUACUUGAAGCUUUUUGUUUGUCUCUUGAACAUCUUUAUGCCGAGCUGUCUGAUAUCAAAUAUGCCACAUUGAAUACACAUUCCAUUGAACCACAUGCUUGGAUUUUAUGCUCUCAAUUGAAUGGAUUUUCAUUCAAAACAUUGUUGCAUUCGUUGGAGUGAUUUUCAGGCUUUUGUUGAAUUCGUUGGAACCCUUUCCGAAGAAUGAGUACUGGAGAGCAUGAAAGAUCUUUCAUUGUUAAACCUUAGGGGAAAUAUACAAAUAAUCGCGCAGGUAAUGUAUUAGGACUUAUGUAUUCUUAUCAUAAUAAGCCUUUUCAUUUUGAGCAGCAAGUUGUUGAUCCUGAUAUUCACUUCAAUUACAUUAAAGUAGCUGCUAAAACUGGACAAAUUAAGGUGUAGAGAAUGUAACAUGGGAAUCGAUUAAUGUUUUAUUUAGAUGACAAAGAACUGUAUGAUGAAAGCCAAGCUUCCGGAUAUUUACUUCAAAUACGUUGAAAGGUAAAGUUUUUGGUUGCGGUUGUAUUUAAUUUAGAAUCAUUCUUUGACAAUCUUAAAUGUCCAUUUUUCUAAGAUUAUAUUUCUUGCUUCUAGGUCAAUCGAACAAAUUCUGCUAUAGUUGUCGGGAAAUUGUUAGAUGAUGAAUACUUUGAGCUCAUUCUCUUGUUCCCAUUGAACCAUUGGUUAAAGAAUGUGAGAAGAGCUAAUUUUCUCUCUUCCCUGCAUGUGCUGGAAUCACUUGCUUAUUACACUGUUGUUGGAACAUAUAUUGAGUGAGGGAAGCAAAGACAUUAGUUGAUUGAGCUUCUUCAACAGAUAGUGCUGCACAGUUCUCCCUUUGGUUGAAGCUUCAAUUUGCUUUCUUAUGUAAAUUAAGUUAUAAGAUAGCAACUUUUUGUCAGAAAAUUCUGCUCUAUAUAUUAACAUGAAACAAUUUACUUUCAUUCACAUGAUGUAUCGGAGUUUACAGUCUCAUUAUUGUUUCAAUUAUUGUUAGUUAACCAUUUAUGUAUUUGGAUUUACACUGUAAUUUACUUUCGUUCACAUGAUAUAUUUGGCUUGUUCUUAUUCAUACCAAAAAAAAAUGGAUCAGUUUAGUUUACCAUCUUUUUAUUUGUAGCAUCUUUUUAUAUAACUUAUAAUAGCGUUUGAACUUAUAAAAUACUAUUUUUCGUUUAUUUAUACCCUUAUUAUCUUAUUGUGAAAAGAAUAUAUUAAUUAAAAAAAUAUCCUUUCAUAUUUCUUUUUUUUUUUUUACAAAAUUGUCAUUUUAUAUUUUUUUUAGUUAGUUCAACGGUUAAUUUUAUCACAUACUUCAAAUAAAAUCAAUAAGUUUAUCUUUUUUUUUUGUUGACAAAACUAGUUUAUCUGUUAUUAAAUUGCUUAUCUAUUAACCGCUAUAAACUCAUCAUAGAGCACCUAGAUAUCAACCACCGGCUAGUUUUUACCAAAUAGAGCAUUAGUUUUUUUUUUUUAAGAAGUUAAAAUGAAAUUUUUCAAAACGCAAAGAAUCCUAACUAGCACGAGAAAUACUAAGCUAUGAGACUUAAAUAGCAACAUACAAAGAAAAAGUGUGCCAUACGCGAAACACUCAAACAAACACUCAUAUAUCAAAUACAAACGUCUACAAACAAACCAAAAACACCCUCCACUAAGGGCCUCCGAAACCAAUAAAAACUAAACACCAAAACCAUAAAGUCAUCUCCCAAAAACAAACUCUAAACGCCCUCUAAAAUAACCUUCAAACCUACCAAAAAAUCGUGCAACCGUACCUUGCUUCUCUUCUGCAGUUGAGCGCAAUUAAGCACGGGUUGAUUAUAUAUCUCACACUACGUGUUGCGGGUUGAAUGUCCACGCCCUUGUGGUGCAUACUUGCAGGUUGAUGACGCAUAUUUGCCGUGAGUUUUUCAAGGAUGGAUUUGGUGCCUACUCGUAUUUUACCGCUUACUUUUGGAGUCUUGUUUAGUGGUGCUGUGAUUAAGACGGUGUGGGGUUUUUAUGUUAUUAUUGUUUUAUUGGUGGAACCUUUGCGUUCAUUUUGAUGAUGUAUCUUGAGAUAUGAUAUUUACUCUAUGUUGUUGAGAUUUUAUUUUUCUCCAUCAUACCAAGAACCAAUGAUACAAAAUAUAAGGAAACUCGCAUCUAUGUUGUUCCUCGUUCUAUUUGUCAGCCAGAUCACUAUCAUGAACUGAGAUAAUUUAACCUACACUCAGGGGCGGAGCCACCCCCCAGCUAGCCUGGGCUAGUGCCCAGGCUCGGCUCCAACUUUCUUUGUAGCAAGCCCAACUAUUACUAGAAUUUUUAGCUUUUUCUGCGGAUUUUUGUGUAAAUUCCGCAGGAAACACAUUUCCUGCAGAUUUUGCCAAGGAUUUAGGUUCCGCAGGAAAGAUAUAUCCGUAGGAAAUGUGAAAUUAUCUGCAGAAAAUGUGAAAUUAUUUGCAGGAAGAAAGCAACGUUUUGCGAUAAAUUUUUUGCCCAGACUCUGUAAAAUUCCUGGCUCCACCACUACCUACACUGGUUGCACAAAAAUUGUUCCAACAACAAUAUGAGGUAUAGAUUCCUCAAGAUUAAUUAUAUCUCCCACAUGAGGAGUAGUUACCUUUUCUUUAGAACUUAUUAUAUCAAUAAAAACAAGAACCUUUCAACAUGCAUAAUUGAUAGUUUCGUACCCCAAUUUUUGACCUAGGAACCUACAUUCAUACACCGUCUGACUCAGAAUAUUCUCUGGUUUUUCAAAAAAAAUCGGCAGAAAAGUAUUUUAAAAUACCUCAUCUUUGUACCGAUUCCGACCCCUCUUCUCACUUUUUUAUCUUUUUUAUUUUCUUAGUCUUUUAGUUUUAUCUUACCUUUUAUUUUCCAUCUUUUAAUUUUAUUUUACUUUACAUAAUUUAUUUUAAUUUGUUUUUAUUUUAUUUCGUAUUAGAUUUAUUUUAUUUAUUUCUUUUUUAAUUAAUUAGUGUCCAAAAAAAAAAACAAAGUGUCAAUAGGUCCAAAAAUAAAAUGUCCAAGGUCUAAAAAAAAAUUCAAGUCAAGUGUCAACUUUAACAUUCCUUUUUCAAAAUUCACCAUAAUUGUUCAUCAUUUCCAUUAAACCAAUUUUUCAUUUUUCAUCAACCUCCUCACCUAUAAAUAGAGCCCUUAUUCCACACAAUUUCACACACCAAAAGUUCUCUUGAGUUGUCAAAGAACUUUUCUCUCUUCUCCCUACUUAGCUUGUGUUGACGAGCUAUUCUUUUCUUCUCCCUCUUUUUUCUGCCCCUUCGGAAUUUUGUCCCUUCGGUAAUUUUGUCCCUUUGAAAUUUUGUCCCUUCGGUAAUUUUGUCCCUUCGAAUGUCCCUUUCUUUUAUUUUAUUUUAUUUAUUCCCCUUUUAUAUAUAUUUAAAAAAAUGCAAAAAAUAUUAGGUUAGAAAAGGGUUUUUCGUGGUGAUCCAACGUCACUACGAAAAUUCCUCGUGCUUUUAUUUUCUUGUUACGUUAGUUUACUUUUAAUUUUUUAAUUAAUAUCAAAAACAAGAAAAACAUUCAAAUAAUCAAAAAUCACAAAAUAUUUUCAUAAUAAACCUUGAUUUUCAAUCAAGUGGUCGUUCUUUUUAUUUUCUUUCUUAAUCAAACUUCAAAUCAAUUUUAAUUCUACUUUGAGUCAUUUUUCUUUCAAUAUAAAAAACACGAACAAAUUCUUUUUGACACUUGGCUUUUCUCUUUAAAACUUUUUUCAAAACUAAUAAAAACCACAAAACCAAUCAAACGUCAAUUUCUACCCCGAACUACGAGGUUUUGAUCCCUUACGGGUACGUAGGCAAAGGACCAUGUCCUUCCAAAUCAAUAAAAAAAUGUAAAUAAAAAUGUUCCUUUUCCUUUUAUCACUUUAAUUCCUUCUUUUAGAAAGCAAGCAAGUUUAAGCACAAAAAGUUAAAUAAAAUCAAGAGGUUCUCGUAGAGUACUACGAAUAUUUAGGGUGCUAACACCUUCCCUAAAUAUAACCAACCCCUGAACCCUUAAUCUUUAAAAAUGUGGUAUUUAAACCUUUUUCCACUUUCUUUUGAAAAAAUUAAAAGUUCAGUCGCGAAAUAAAAAAUGAGUCAAAACUAAUCAAAUAGCUUGACCUCCGAAAAAUUACACGAGAGAUAGGAACUAGACUUGUAAGAAGUGUGGUGUCACUUCAUCAAUUUUCUCAGCUUUAGUAUUUAAUGUGGUAAGCUCAGAAAAUGUCUUCACUUUGUGUUACUUGUGCACAACUACUGAACUUGCAGAAAUAAUUUUUUAGAGUCUUAAUAUUUUUAAUUCUUAUAAGAUUAUCCAAUUAUCUUACAUGAGUUGCAGAAAGGUGGAAUUUUCGCAUGCUCAACAUCCACAUAAAAAUCAAAUUCAUUCCUUUUCAACAAAAAUUCAUUCACGCGAAUUCAAAAUUUAAAUCAACAUAUAUAUAUUAACACUCGUGCAAAGUGGCUGAUUUCCUCAUAAUAGUUGCCUCAUCAAAAGUCAAAGGAAUGUCGAAAACCCCCUAGAUUUUCAAACAAAAUUUUAGCGUCUAACAUUCGCGAGUAAGUCCAUAAAUGUGUACUAUCCAUAGUUAGGUCUUAGUUUGGUGCACUAUUUAAGGAUUAAACCCAAUAGUCCAAACUAUAUUCUAAGUAAACCUGGUGAAAGGUUCCAGGAUCAUAUGGUUCUUACAAGACAUAAAUUACACCAUGGAUUAGAGAGCACUUUUUUUUCCACAACCUUAAGAUUCUUCCAUUCAAUUCUAGCAUGAAAGCUAGGGAAAACCCCUUUGGAAAAAGUGAACCGUUUGUGGAUAUUUUGACAAUCUAGAACACCUUUGACCCAUGAGAACUCUUCGCUGAUCUAUCAUUUGAAGAUCUGAAAUAAAAGCUCACUUUCUUCGAUUCCCACAAUAUUUCACACAAAAAUUCAUAUAUAACUUCCAUAUAUUUUUUCUUUAUACAAACUCAAUAUGAAAUUCCCCGAAUGGAUUUUCCAUUUCCAUAAAGAAUAUAAUUGACAACUUUGAGUUCCAGAUUAUCCCUUUCCUGGAAUAGAUCUCGGGGAAAAAGUUUUACAAAAUCGAUAUUGUCCGAUAUUUCAUAUAAAAUUACAGGUCGAACCAAAAAAAAAUAUUUUUUCUUGGUAGUUGCGAUCCAUUGGACACAGAUAUAUUGCACUAAUCAAAGCUUUUAGGUGCCUCUUUUUACCACAUCAUUCAAUAACUUUGUAAUAUUAUAACUCACAAUAUUCAUAUGGGUCUUGGUAACCAGUGCCCUAAGGGCAAUGGUUAAGGAUUCCAUUAAUAGAAAUUUUGUCUUGGAAAUACAAGUCUUUACUUUUUUCUUAGCAAUAAUUACACCACUUUUCGAUACAAAUAUAUUUAUUUUAGUACUUUAACCAAUACCUCAAAUGCAAUGGUUAGAAUUCUCCUAUUCUUAUUUCACAAUCUACUAUUAUUAACCAAACAUCACAAUCCACACUCCAGCCUUUAAUUUCACCCUUUUUUAAGAUACUAUUAUAUGUUUUCUCCAUAGCCACAAUUGCCUUCAUUGUCUCCCCAUUUGGUCAAAAUAAAAUCUUCGUUGUAGAGAUAAAAACACGAUUAAGAUUGUUUUUAAUAUGUAUGGUUCAUGAUUGCUUCACAUAAGUUUGGUAUAUUUAUUACAAAAUUAAGACCAUCUAUAAUAGGGGUUCUUCCCCUUUUUAGCGUCAAGCUAACUAAACACCCCAAUUAUAACAUCAAUUAAUUGGGUGCCUAUAGAGAUGGAUGUUUUUAUAGGCACCAUCUCUCCCAUAUUACAUGUGGGUCCCACAUAUAUAAUUAAUUGUAAUUUUUUUCUCUAUUCAAUUAUUAAUUAUUUUAAUAGUAACAAAAUAAAUUAAAUAAUACUUAUAAGUCUUAUAUUUAAUCGAUUAACUUUUUGAAUUUUCAAUGAAAGACUUUUACUACAUCAAAUAAUUCAUUCAUCUUAAAGUUAAAAAAUUGAAAUCAAGCUGAUGUAAUUUAUUAUAAUUUGAUUUUUUUUCAAGUUUAAUUUUUUUGAAUUAUUAAUAAAAUUAAAAAAUUCACUUUUUUAUUGUUUAUAAUGAAAUUAAUUCAAUAUUUAAAAAUUAUAUAAUUAUGAGUGAAUAUAUAAAUUAUUGUUAAAAUUUAAUGAUAUAUAGUUAUUACUUAGACUCAUUUAAUAAUUUAUUUCGGGUGCUACGUUGGAGAGAUUAUGUGUUUAUUAUAUAUUAAUUACGAAAUGAGUGAUGUGUACAGUCGGGACCCGUUUAAGCACCCAAACGAGGUGCUGCAUUGUGGAAGGUCUUAGUUUAUUAUAAAUAUGGUUUCAUAAUAAAUGUAGAAGUUUCUUUAAGAAAAAAUAAGUACAAAAUUUUAAAUAUUGUUUCUUUUAACAAAAACAUUAAAGACUCAUAAGUGAAUGAAAACAGGAAAAUUUGGUAACACUUGUAUAUUAAUUGGUUAUCUAGACAGAUCAAUCUAUUAACUCCUCCUAUUUGAUUACUUCAUUACAUUAAUCGAUUAAUUGUCAUAAAAAAAGUUCUAAACUAUUCUAGCCAUCUCAUAUUGAUGUUCAGAUGUCUAAACAUUUAACAAUUAGAACAAUUGACCAACAAAACUAAUACAUAAAUAAUCAGAGCUUUGGGGUAUUACAUUUCUAAUUUCAAUCACUUAAAUCAAGUUUUCAUACUUUUCUAGUCAAGUAAAUUUAAUCAAUAUAAUAAUACAAUUAUAUUCAAUUGCUAAUUUGAAUGUUCUUUUUAACUUAUAAUUUUUAUGUGUCUAGAACAUCAAGACAUGAACAACAAUUUUUUUCUUCAAAAAUAUAAUUUAACGUGAUAGAAUUGAAAACUUAUUUUAUCAUAUGCAAGUAUUGGAAAAGGGAAAAAAACAUUUAUCUAACAACUAAGGCUUAAUACAUCAUCUGAUCCCCUAACUUGUUUUAUUUUUUCAGUGUGGUCCCUCAACUAUUAAGUGUGUCAAUUUGGUCUCAUAAGUCUUCCUCCAUUUACUUAGUUGGUCCAUUUUGUUAAGUUUUUUUCAAAAAACGUUAUGUUUGCACAUGUGACUCUCCACAUUGGCAUAACCCUUACAAUUCGGAGAAGAUAGAGAGAGAAUGAAGAAAACGUAUAGAGAGAAAGGAGAAGAAAACGCAGAGAUAGAAGAAGAAGAAACGAAAGGAAAAAGAAAGGAAAGCUUAGAAACGAAGACGAAUCUUCAACUCGGAUCCAAUUCUAGGUUUGUUUCCUCAUCUUCGUUGUGAAUCACAAGUAGAAAAAGUAUUUUUGUUCUGAUUAGGGUUUUGAAAACUUUCUAGGGUUUUGGAAAAUUUUAUAGGGUUUUGAAAUUUGAAUGAUUUUUUUUACCUUUUAAGGUUCUGUAUGCAUGAAUUUGGAUAUUCUAUUAUUAUUUUUCUUCUUAAAAGUUGAUUUUUGUCUGUUGUGUUGGAUUUUAUGCAUACAUUUGAUUAGGGUUUAUUCCUUUCUUUCCUUAAUGGCUCAGAAGAGAUGGACCAAAUCUUUGAGUGUGUCAUACAUCAUGUUGGGGACUUUUGUAGUUUUAUGGACUUUGAGUAUGUAGGUCCAGAAGAAGUACUAGAAUGUGACCCAAAUUAUUUCUCCUAUUUUGCAUUAUUAACAACAUUAAAAAGAUUAGGUUACCAAACUCUUCAAUCUCUGUGGUAUUAUGAUCCUGCUUUGGAAGAUGGAAUGAUUGUUUUGAAUAGUGAUAAUGGUUGUAGAAGGAUGCAGAAUAUUGCACAUCAAUUUGAUAGGGUCCAUUUGUAUGUUGUUCACCUAUGUCACAACCUGAAAUUGUAGUUCUUAACCCAUUGAUAAAAUAUCCUUGUAUGGCCCCACCUGUUAGGAAUGAGACAAAUGAAGGUCGCACUAGUUUAGGUCCCACUCGUGAGGGUUGAAAUGAUGAUGGUGGUGUAAGUGGUGUAGGUCCCACUGCUGAUGGUACAAAUGGACGUGGUUUUGCAAACUAAAAUUGUUACUAAUACCAACUCAACCCAAUCCUAAGAUUUUUAAAAUUGUUCCUAACAACUGAUAACUAACUAUAGUCGUUUUUUAAAAAAAAAAAAAAAAAAAAAAGAUAUCAUAAGAUAAACUAUCUUGAUUUUUUUGGGUUGCAUAAGAUAACAAUUAAUCAUGUACAUAAAAUAUGACACUAUGUGAUAAUUUAUUAUCAGAUGAUCAUCAAACACAUGACAUCAUACACACUUACUUUUAUAAUAUUUAUCUUGACUUAUCUCUUAUUAUAUCUAUAAUUAUCCUGAUCAUCAAAUUGACCAAAAAUAAAAUUUAAAAACCAACAAUGAAUAUAAAUUAUGUAAUUGAAUAAAAAGUAUAUGCAAAAACAUUAAUUUAUCAAAUCAGUUUAAAAAUAUAUAUAUAUUAAUCAAAUCACCAUCAAAUAUUAUUGUGACAUUUUUUUUUUGUCAAAAAUAUUAUUAUGACAUUGUUUUCUUAUUUUAAGCAUAUAUCAAUUAUCAAAACAAAUAUUCGUAAAUGUUCAAACAUCAAAUUUUUUUCUUUCUAGUUUCCAAUCUAAACCGCCCUCUUUUAUCACAUCCCAUUUACUACAUCAAUGCUUUAAUUAAUUUUAUUUCUUCAUUAAAUAUUCAAUCUACGUCCUCGUAAGCAUACCUCAAUUGGUAGAGACAUGCAUUGUUAUAUGCAGGCGCUGCGGUUCGAACCCCAAACACCACACUUAUUCACUUUAAAAAAAGUGAAUUAUAACCAAUAAACUACCUGACAAAAAAAGAAUAUAUUCCAUCUACACAAAAUAAAAACAAAAUCUUUUCCUUUAGUCUCAAAAAGUACGUUAGAGUUUAUAGUAGGGUAGGGUCCACUCUCAAAACGGCGUCGCCUAUACGCUGCACCCUCACACACUGGACCACACUCUAUAAUAAGCCGUUAAACUGAAACAAAAAUAACAUGAGGAAAGGAACAUGGUUAUUAAACAGUUCCAUCAAAACACAUAAGUAACGUGCAUGGUUUUUGUACACGUGGACCAAUCACAACAAAGCUCAGAAUCCUUAUUAUUAUGUUAUGUUGAAGUGAUCAAACUUCAACACUCUCAUAAAACAGAACUGAACUGAAACAAAACACAGAAAGAGAGAGAAACAGAAAAAUAAUCUAAGUUUUUUUUCGAUGGAUUAACGUUGUGGUUUUUGUCGUUUCCUUUGAUUCUGUGUUUUUUUCAUUGUUUUCUUGAAAAAGGGUACGUAUGAAUCACAGUUUCUUCUGCAUUGAUAAGUUUUUUCUUUCUUUCUGAAUUUUCUUACAUCAAUCAUCAAUGGAGGUUGAUGGUGAUAAGAGUGAUAAUGGAAAUCGAAAAAGGAAAAGAAGAUUUUUGAAGAGAAAGCUUCUUGUCAAUGAAAAAGUUGAGGUAAUGUAAUAUGAUUUGUGAUUUCGGUUUUUUCUUCUUCAUUUUUGAUAAAGAUUUUAUUUUUAUUUGGUUAUGAAUUUCUGGGUUGUUGAUUUUGUUUUUGGUUUUGUGAUUUGAUGUUCUUAGGGUUUCUUUGAGGUUUUUUUUUACACAAUUGUUAUGAUUCUUUUGUAUCAAGAAUUUUCUUUGUUUCUCUGUUUAUGAUCCUUUGAUUUUCUUGUAAUUCUGUUGUUGAUUUAUGGUUUCGGUGGAUUUUGAUGUUACUCAUCUAUGAUUUUUGUUUUCAUAAUUCUCAUUUUCUUAAAUUGUUUUGAUUUUUCUUGUUUUACGCUGUUUUAGAUUUCAUGCAAGUGAUGAAUUGGGAAUAGGAUAAAUGCUGUUUAUGGUAAUGUGGACUAAAUGUUAUUUCCUUUAUCAACACUUUUGCAUUUUUUUAACAAUUGUUUUUUGAUUUGAGAUACAUGCAUGUUGUGUGAAUGGUGAUUUCCUUCAUCUGAAAUUUCCACUUGAAAGAAUUUUUUAUGAAAAGUUUAUUUUUUUUAAUUUUUCAGUUGAGAAGUUUGGAAGAUGGUUUUCUGGGAUCGUGGCAUCCGGGGAAAAUUCUCCGCUGCGGGAGGAAGACGCGUUAUGUCAAAUACGACAAUAUUCUUGAUGAUGAAGAAUCGGAUUAUCUUAUUGAAGUGGUGGAUGUUUCUAGUGUUUUGGAUGGUGUUAAUUCUUCAUCUGCUUUAGAUUGUAGCUAUCAGCGAGGCCUGAUUAGACCAUUACCGCCUCCAAUUGAGUUACUGAUAAAGGAUCUUCCAUUCGGACAAUGUGUUGAUGUGAAAUAUCAGGAUGCUUGGUGGGAAGGUGUGAUAUUCGAUCGCUGCAAUGGAAUGAAGGAUAGGAGCAUAUUCUUCCCAGAUUUAGGUGAUGAAAUGAAGGUUGGAGUUAAACAAUUGAGGAUCACUCAGGAUUGGGAUGAGUCAACUGAGAAUUGGUUACCGAGAGGGAAAUGGGUGUUUCUCGAGUUGUUUGAGGAGUGUGAGAGGGUAUCCUAUGUUGCAGUCUCAGUGAAACAGAUUUGGUAUGAUAUUAGGAUGAGAAAGGAUUUUGCUGAAACCAUUAGAGAAUGGACUUGUAAUGUGAAGGAGUUGUGGAGAGACCUUGUUGUUGAGGUAAUUGGUGAUUACUAUACCCUCACAUUAAGCGAAGUUCGCCCUGCCUUAAACAUUCCAAACAAUUUACUCGAAGGAGAGUCAUUUGAACCAACUGAUAAUGUUCAGUGUGAGGCUACUAAUCAAGGUAAUGCAUUUGGUUCUGACAUUGGAAUAUCUGAUAAGCCUGAGGAAAACGCUGACUCCUUAAACUUGUUGGUUACUGAUCAAAACUGUGGCAGCACAAGCAUCAUUCCUUUGGUGGAUGAGGAAUUUGAGAAGGAAAAUCUUUUACAUGAAGAGCUUGAAUCAGAUAAAAGUCAAAUGGUGGAUGUGGAGUUUGAGAAGGAAAUUCUUUUACAUGAAGAGCUUGAAUCAGAUAAAAAUCAAAUGGUGGAUGUGGAAUUUGAGAAGGACAUUCUUUUACAUGAAGAGCUUGAAUCAGAUAAAAAUCGAAAACGGAGACGUUCUAAGUCCAUAAUUUGGAAGCCAUUGGAACUGUCUGAAGUUGAAUUCUGUCCUGAAGUUAUUGAUGAGUAUGCACUUGGAUGUAGGAGCAAGACGGUUCGGGAGCUUUUGAAGACGAAAGUAAGAAAACAUCUUGUUUAUCUUGGAUGGACAAUUGAAUGGACCGAAAACAAUACUCCUCCACAUAGACGAUACCGGUACAAGUCUCCGGAUAAACUUAAUCCAAAGUUUUACACUUCCAUUUUUCAAGUUACUAAAAUUUUGCAAGAGGAUCCUAACAUGAACUCUGGGCCACCUCAAAUUGACAGCAAUCUUUCACAUCUGCUCUCUGAUCCACCCCAAAUGAGUCAAGGUUUCAACGUUUGUCCUCCAACCAAUGAACCUUCUCCAGUUAAAUUUCAAGUUGAACCAGAAUUUUGUCCUCUAGCCAUCGUGAAAUACUACUGUCACUCAUUAGAGAGAAACUCGUCUGAUAAGAGAAAGUGGAAAUUGAAGGCGAAAAAACAUCUGUUAUCAGAAGGAUGGAUGUUUGACUACCCAACUGAAAGAAGGAAGACUACUUUGUACAAGUCUCCACAAGAUCAGUGUUUAGGCACACUUCAAGGUGCAUGCAGACUAUACCUUAAAGAAAAGAUUCCCGAAUGGACUAAUUCUGAUCAUGGUGAUGAUGAUGAUCUACUUUCGAGUGUGUCCCAAUUGCUUCAAAAAGAGCCUGAAUUACGUACUAUAGAUGGUUCACCACCAACUGCAAAGAGAAACCAUAAACGCGCAAGGACUUCAAAGGCUAGCACACAAAAGGACUUAGAGAGUGAAGUACUUACCCGGGUGCUAAGAUCAAGCAAAAGGGUGCAGAAGGUUUUGGGUUCGUCAUAUCAAAAGCCUCAAAAUAUUCUGUCUUGGUUAAUAGAUUGCAACAUUGUGUUGCCAAAGUACAAGGUCUUUUACUGGGAAACCGAAGGAGGAAACUCUCCUAUGUUUGAAGGGAGGAUAACUCGCGAAGGAAUUAGGUGCACCUGUUGUCAGAAUCUAUAUGGACUCAGUGGCUUUGCAAACCAUGCUGGUGGAAGCAGUAACUGCAGGCCUUCGGCUUGUAUAUUUUUGAAGGAUGGUAGGUCACUGUUAGAUUGCAUGAUGGAAGUAAUGCAAGAUCACAGGACAAGAGAAAUUACGGAGAAACCGCACAAUGAUCUGUUUGAAGGUGAAAAUGACAACAUUUGUUCUGUUUGUAACUACGGUGGUGAACUCAUUUUAUGCGACCAAUGCCCCUCGGCGUAUCAUAAGAAUUGUCUUAAUUUGGAGGUAGAUUAUUAACAAGUUUCCUUUUCAAUCAAACAUAUUAAGUUCUAUCUUGUCGCUAUAUUUCCUUUCCUUUUUGUUUCCAUGUAACUCCUUCAAUUCAGUACUUCAUGCCAUAUUAAGUUUCAUUCUGCAUGUGAAGGGCAUCCCUGAUGGUGAUUGGUUUUGUCCAUCAUGCCGUUGCGGGAUUUGCGGCCAAAAUAAAAUUGAAGAGACUGAGGAUGGACACUUUCUUACUUGCAUUCAGUGUGAACAUAAAUGUGAGCUGAUAUAUAGAUUUUAUCCAAUAUUCCAUCCAUUCCUUUGUGAUGUGUUUUAGUUUGUGUGAAUAACUACAUAUUUUGACCAAUGAAAAAUUUGACCAAUGAAAAAUGUCUUCAACUCUGUAGAUCAUGUUGAGUGCCUCAGAAAUGGAGAAAAAGAUGAUUCAAGACGAUGUAUGAAAAAUUGGUUCUGUGGAGAAGAGUGUGAACGGGUAAGUUAAUUCCACCUCCCUUUUUUCUUCUAGUUUAGAAAUAUUUUCAUCUCAUUUUGCAUGAAGAAUUGGUUUCUGCUUCUAUUUAUUCUGAUUUGACAUUUGUUGGAAGCAUUACUUAACCAUUCUUUUUUUCUUUAUCAAAACUAACUACUCCACAUCCAAUUCAAACACUUAGCACUUUCUAGUCCAACAAUGAGCUCUUUAUUCAGAUCAUGGUUGCAUCUAUUAAUGGCUGUCAUUUAAUAGCUAAGUAGCAAGUCGACAAUGCAUGAUUUUUGGUGAUUGGUAAGUGUUAAGACAUCAAAAGCAAAACAGAUUUAAGUUUGAUGCUAGUGAAACAUUUAAGGCCUUGUAACUUAAAUAUACACUGCUAGAAUUAUGUUUUAUGACAAUGGUUUUACUCUACAUUUACGCGUAUGCACUUUUCGCAGGUCUAUACUGGGCUCCAGAAUCUAUUAGGAAAGCCAGUUUUAGUGGGGGCAGACAAUCUAACUUGGACAUUGGUGAAGUAUGUCAACUCUGAGACUUGCGGUGUUGGCGGUGCUGAAAGUGACUUAGUGGUGGAGAAUUACAGCAAACUGAGUGUUGCACUCUCGGUGAUGCAUGAAUGUUUUGAGCCCCUGCAUAACCCUUUCUCUAGCAGAGAUAUCGUGGAAGAUGUUAUAUUCAACCAAAGGUUAGACAUUCUUAUCCUUCAAUUUAUGUUUAUCAUUUUUUUUUAUGAUUGUUUGCAAACUUUGUUUGUCGCAUACUCACAAUUCAUGCAUAUAACAUCAUGAGUUGAACCUGCUGAAAUAGCUUUGCUUACCUUCAAUUUUGAGCCUUUUCCAUUACACCAUGGUGGUAAUAUUCAGGUAACAACUGAAAGUAAUCAAUUCUCUGAUCUACCAACUUUAUCAUCAAUAAAAAAUAAAAAUAAACAAACUCUACUAUUUUUAUACAAUACAUAGAUAUGUUAGAAUUUAGGAUUUCUUUUGUUGCAUAUAUAGUGUUAGGGCAAAGUUUGCGGCUUUACGUUUAUCAUGCAGGAUGGAAUUUCUUGGACCGUAACAUAUUUAUUUGAAGAUACUAAUAAAAACGUUUCCUUAUUUUAUGUACACAUUUCUUGUCGUCCAACUUAUCCUGCAAAAUCUAUGCCUAUAUAGAUGGCAUCAUGAUUAGUGUUUGAGGAGUAAACAAAGUAUUUCGGCUCAUGUUGAGUAUUUAUUGCGAUUUUGGUUAUUUGAUUCAAAUAUGAUUCUAAUGGAUAUAUCAUAUAGCUUUUAACUCCUUCUGUGCUUAGAUUUCUUUUUUUCGAUCAAACAAGAUGGCAUGCAAAAGUAUCACUAUAGGUUUUAAAUUCCAUCCAUGUUUGCACCUCGAAACCUUAGUUUUGAUUGUAUGUACAUCUUUGAGUCCAUUCACUGAUGGAUUUGUUACCAGGUUUACAUUGUUUGUAAUCAUGGUAUUUUACCUCUAACUUGACCGGCAUUAUUAUUACAUUCACUUUGCGCCAAUGCCUGAUGUAUGUACUUCGGAACCUCGUAGGUCUGAGCUCAAUCGACUAAACUUCCAGGGUUUCUAUACUGUACUUCUAGAGAGAAAUGAAGAAUUGAUUAGUGUGGCGACUGUGAGGUGAGUAUAGGAUCUGCUACUACUAAGAAUAAAUACAAUAACAGAUUAUGCAUGAUUCAGUGAUUGCAUUUCAAGUUUCCGUAACUUGGCAUUUCAUGUUUUAGGAUAUUUGGAGAGAAGAUAGCAGAAGUGCCCCUCGUAGGUACCAGAUUUCAGUACAGACGACUUGGAAUGUGCCGCGUUUUAAUGGAUGAGCUCGAAAAGGUGACAUAAAAAUCAUAAAGUUUGUCAUUUUAUCUGGUUGUUUUUGUGAACUAUAUUAAAUCAUCUUGAUAUGGCCUGUGACAUUUGAAUUGUAAUUCAUUUCUAUUGUGUAAGUUAUUCCAAGUUUAUUAUCAAAUUUCUCACUUUAAUUUUUUUCUUUCAUCAGAAGCUAAAGCAACUUGGAGUGGAAAGACUAGUCUUGCCUGCUGUUCCCGGUGUGCUAGACACAUGGACGAAUUCUUUUGGUUUUGAGCAGAUGACGAAUUUUGAAAGGUCACAAUUUCUGGACUAUUCUUUCCUAGACUUUCAAGGAACUGUCAUGUGUCAGAAACUUUUGACAAGAUUUCCAUCUCCGGAAUCGGUUGUAACAAGAGGUUCGUAGCUUCUUAUGAUUCCUGUAUUAGCCGUUAGUUUGGCAUAAUCACAAUGCGGUAAAGUUAUUGUCGCAAUAACUACACUUUAGAGCUUUAACAAAUUUAGUGUCAUUGUGAUAUUGCGAAACUCACCGACAAUCUAAAUAUGCACAUAAUUAAACAGUUUCCUCGCUGAUUGGAUUAUAACCGUAUUUUUUCAUAUUGCAGACGCGACUCCAAAACAAAAAGAUGGUAGCUUCUCUGUUAAAUGUAAAAUUAAUUUUGAAAAGGCUAGUCCAGUAUCUGAAGUGGAUCAAGCAGAAGGGAUUGGCAAAAGAGGAAUGAUGGAUCUACAAGUUUGGAGAUCUUCCUAAUCAAACAAGAAAAUAAAUUUGAUUUUUGUGAAAGAGACAGAAAGACAAACAUGGAGUAUUGGAGGGGGAAAGAAAAGGAGAAUAAGAAAAAUUGUACAAGAAAAUUGCAUUUGAACAAUUAUAUUAAAUGUAAAGUAGGAAUUUUAGUCUUUAGGCUAAGUUUAUCUUCAUGAUUGAAAAAUAAUGUUGGUCUUUAUUUAAAUGAUUAACUAAUGUACUGUUUAUAUAAUGUCUUUGUUAUGGGAUUUUUCCUAAUGAACAAGAAUCUUUAAAGUGAACAUAUACUUGUUUAAAGUGUAUUAUAAUCACUAUAGAGUUUUGACAUUAUCGAACAUUAAAUGUGAGUAUAUUUCUCAGCCAAAAUUCAAAUCUUAAUUUAUCAUAUUAUCAUAGACUAGACUAGUCUCUUCUGUUGAACCUAACCCCACAAGUAGGUACUAUAUGUCCUUUAAUUUCGCCAUAUAUGCAUGGCUUUAUUGGGGAGCAUGGCUUUAUGCAAAAAAAAAAUCAAUUAAUGAGUUCAUUUGAUUAAAAGAGAGUGUGAAUUAAGACUGGGAAAUUUCGGAAUAAAAACAAGAUGUCCCGUUUCUAUUAUGUAAUCAACUCAAUAUGUAAAUCAGAUUUGGUUUUAUCCUCUCUUUUUCAUGAGAAGAAGAUUUUAUUAUAUAUUUUUUUACAAAAUCAUAACAAGAAGAUUUGUUUUCAUCUUUACUAUAGAUAUGCCUUAAAGAUUAUAUAUUAUCUUCAAAAUAAUUACAAAAAAUAUGUCUACAAGAAAUUUAUGAAAAAUAAAUAAAAGAUAUGCCUACAUGAUUAUCUAAAAAAUAAUUACAAAUUCAAAUAAUUCCAUAAUUAAGUAAAUCUGUGUAAAGUUACUCUACUUAAUAACUCAUUAAAUCAAUAGACUCACUAACUUAACUCAACCGUUGAAUUUAAUUAAGAGUGAGCAAGGGAAGAGUUUGAGAUGGAUUAUUGUAAUCAAUCAUAUUCAUUUUAGAAAGGGUCUUGUUAACAUCCUCCUUUUAAAAAAUCAUAAGCAGUCUCUUAAACCCUACCUACUAUAGUUUAGACAUAAUUUUUUUUGUUAAUAAAAUAAUAAAUUUCAAAUUUAUUUAAGAUGAAAUCGGGUCAGCUUAAAAUAUAUCUAAAAUAUUUUUAGUAACUUUUUUACUACUAAAAAACAUGUUUUUUGCUAGAGAGAGGGGUGUUUGUUUUAAGUUUCACAUCUCAACUCUUAACCAAUUCUUUCUAAAAAAAACUCUUAACCAUCUUUUCUCCUAGUUAAAAUAAAAAAUCAAUACUAUCAUUCUAUCAAUACUAUCCCCUUUUUAUAUUUCAAUAGUUUAGAUCAUUCACAUGCUCAUAUUUGUUUUCAUAUAUUAUAGGAUCUUGAUUCAUUCUCAUGAAAAUAAAAGUUAAAAUCAAUGGGGUGUUUAUUUUAAGUUUAUUACAUUUAUUCCUAGGAAUGUAAGGAUAAAAUUGUAUUGCUAUAUAUUUUAAAAGAAAGAUGUUUGAUUAAUAUUAUAAUAUUUUUGAAAGCUUUUAUAAUAGGUAAGUUUUUUUUUUUUGAAGGAUUUUAUAAUAGGUAAGUUAAUAGAUAUUUAUACAUGACUUUAUUCUCAUUUUUAAGACAACUUUAUUCACACUCUUUUUUUGGGAAUUUUUGUCUAUUCCCAUAAACAGUUUUAUAUUUAGAAAUACUUUUUAAAUUUGUAAUGAACAUGUAAAUGCAUAUAUCUAUCAUAUUAUUAAAAAAAAAAAGUGUCUAAGUUCUUUUGGAACCCCUUGGAUUUCUUCUUGUUGUUUCCCAUUCAUGAACCAUACCAUGAUUUCUACUACCUAUUGGACAUCCAUGUCCAAUAGGUAAGCAGGAGAAAACAAUUUCUAGUUAGAAAUUCGAAUAAAUUAAAACCUAGUUUUUUUUUUUUUUGAGAGAGAAAUUAAAACCUAGUUUUGUAUAUGGAGCCUUGGCUCUAGAUUUGGGGUCAAGAUCCUAUCACUAGAUUUGCUCAUUGUAAGAACUAUUGAGCUAGUCUCUAUUAAUUUCCAUCACUAAUUUUGAAUAUGUCAAUAAAGAGCCAAAAAAAAAAUAAUGGUUACUUUUUUGGGAUCUAAAAUCGGUGGUUUGCCUCUUGAAUGGGGACAAUUGGAUUGGAUAAGCUGCAACAUUUUUUUCAAUAUUUUGGGAUCUAAUAUCGGUGGUUUCUCUCCUUUUUUUUUACAUUAAAAUUUUUUCCAUCCUUUUAUUUUGAAUGGCUACUUACCAUUGCACAAGAUCAUGAUUUUAUAUAUACUCUCUUUUGUCAGAAAUCAUAAUUCUAUAUAAAGAAAUGUUGGAACAAUAGAAAUUAUGGCUGGGGAUGUCGGGAUAACCUAACAUGUAAGGAUAUGAUAAGCAGCUAGUUUCCCACAAACAGCAUGCAUAUAGUGACAAGUACUCUAUAGUAUAUUAUAAUUUAUAUCCAAACACUAUCUAUUGUUAUUACUAUUUUUUGAUAGGAAAAAUAAAUUAAAAGACAUGAUAUUUGUUUUGACCAAACCUAUAUUUAAGAAUGAUAUAUACUUCAUCCAUCUCUGUAUAUAAGCAUCAUUUGCCUCUAAUAAAAGAGUGCUUAGAUAUAGGGACGGAGGGAGUAAUUAUGUUUUUUCCGUGUAGUUUUCUUUCUUUGUAAAACGAUAUGAAUGUUAAAGAAUCCCACAUGGGAUAUGAGAUCAUCUAACAAUGUUAUGUUUAUAAGUGGUGACAAUUUUUACCGUAUCAGAGUCUCCUCCAAGAUUUGUUGGAUCACCUGCUAUCAGAUUUUUAUUAUUGGACUAUCCACUAUUUAUAUCCACACUCCAGAUGUUCAAUCUUCAUUGUGAGAGGAUGUGUUAAAUGUGUCUAUAAAUUGAAGCAAUAAUCACCUCACAAACCGAUUUUGCGGAGCUAUGUUAUGUACAACCAUAAUUUCUAAGAUGCAGAAGAAACAAUUGAAAACAAUCCAGGAGUGUAAUAAGUUGGUUUGUUUCAAUCUUUGAGAAGAAAAAAAUGAAACCAAUAAAAUAAUCAAUCUAGUUUUAUAAUAUUUUCUCGCAAAAUCUGAAUUAAAUCUUCGAAGAAUGGGUCGAUACAUACGAUUCAGUUCAGUUGGGUUGAUAUUGAAAAAUUUUAAAUAAAUGAUUUUAAAAUAUAAUGAUACAUGAAGAUAUCAUAUUUUUUACCUCUACAAAUACAUAUUUUUAAAAUAACACUAUGUAACAUAUUGUAUGAAAUAACAACCUCCAACUCUUUAAUUCUUAACCAGUUAUGUUCAAAACUGAACCAACCCAUUAAAAAAACUGUAAACCAAACCAAUUUAAAUCGAAAUCGUAAAAAAUCGCACUUGAUUCGGAUGAAUUCAGAUGACUUUUGCACUAAACCGUACGGUUCGGUUUGCGGUUUGCAUCUCAGCAACCGAACCAAAUCAAACCAAAUCGCAAGAAUAAUGAAUAUUACUUAAUCAUGUGCUAGCCCAAUUACAUAGCUCAAAAAUAACGCUUUCAAUUCGAUUUUUCCAUUGUUGCACCAUCAAGUUCGAUUCUAAUUAUUUUCCAUCUCUUUCAAUUCAUUUCCAGUGAUGAAUUUGUUUCCUUUACUUCCCAAUAAUUUGUUUCAUGCUCUUAUGUUUCUUCUUAAUUUUACCUAUUUUGAUAUAAGUUUUACCUAAUAUUUUAUCAUAUAAACAGCAAAAUAAAAUGUCCUAUGUUUAUUUUGUAAUAAGUUGGCAAUAUUAGAGUUAAUGUAAUUUUUUUUUUUAUCUCGCGAUGAACCGCACAAACCGAACUAAUUCAAGCCGCAUUGGUUUGGUUUUGAUGACUUUUUAAAAAUCAACCGAACCAAACCAAACUGCAUGUUUUUUUAUCUUGCGGUUUAGAUGAUUUUUAUGCUCAAAACCAAACCAAACCGCACCGCGAACACCCCUGUAAUCUUAACUCAAACUAGAUUGGGUUUAGCGAUAAGAAUUGUUUAUCCGGAUCAUCUUUUGAAACGGUUAAACUAUAUAUUAGUAUGGUCACAAAUUAAGUUAAACGUUAAAAAAAAUUCAACCUCUAACAUGUUUCCUUUCAUCUAGUUGAUUAUUGUUUUCUUUUGGUUUGGUGACUUUGCUUUGUUGCCUCUUUUGUAAUCUUUACUAUUGUAUUUUCAAUAUUAACACUUCUUGUGUUAUGACUAUGCCAUUUUAAUACAUUCUUUCUUGACCUUUUCAAAAAUAAAAUUUCUCUUUCCUUAAAAAAAAAAACAUUGAGCUACACAACAUCCAUAAAACACGACGAUAAAAUCGAUAUCCAAAUCAAAAUAUAAUGGUAUGGCGUAGAAUACGUUAACAAAAUCGAACCUAUUUAAUUGGUUUGGAUGGGAUCUUGUUCUUCUACCCUUAAUCAUAUCACUCACACCGGAUUUUUGGAUUUGAAAAACAAAAUCUUUUUUCCUACCAUAUAUCACCACCAUUGUUCAAAUUUUACUAAACCGCGUGAAAAAGUUGCAUGGUGAGUGAGUGACCACGUUCACGUUCAUCCACCUUCACAUGCACACAGUUUCUAUACCUUUUCUCUCAAAACAGUUACCUCUUUUUUGUAUUAAUAAUACAUUUUCAUUUUCCCUCUCUUCUAUUCUCUCUCAAUGUCUCUUUCUUUUUCUGUUUUUGCUUCAUUCUUCUCUCUUCUUUUUCUUCUUUCUCUUCAUUGCCAAAUAGUUUCUUCUUUUCAUUAUCAUCAUCAUCAUCAUCAUCAUCAUCAUGAACAAGUUUAUCAUCAAAAACCCAGUUUGAAAGCAAACAAUAAUCAAAGUAGUUGUGCAUUGUUUGUAGGAAGUUGGGUUUUUGAUGAAAGUUACCCUUUUUAUCAAUCUUCUAGCUGUGAAAUUAUAGACCCAGAAUUUAAUUGUCAAAUGAAUGGUCGUCCUGAUUCUGAUUACCUUAAAUACCGUUGGAAACCACUCAAUUGUGAGCUCCCAAGGUAUAAAAAAUAAUAAAAGCAUAUGUAGCAUUAACACGUCUGAUCAAAGAUGUGUCUGGUGUCUGACACGUGAUUAUGUUCAAUAAUUCAUUUUCUCAAGUGUCAAUGUCGUGUCUGGUGUUCGUGUUUGGGUUUGUGCUUCAUAGCAAAAUAUAGUGUUUUUAAGAUAUAGUGUGUGGUUGCUUAGUAUAAUUUGAAUGAUGGUGUUUUUGUGGUGUUUUGUAAUGGCAGGUUCAAUGGAGUUGAGUUUUUGUUGAAGAUGAAAGGAAAAAGUGUGAUGUUUGUUGGUGAUUCGUUAGGAAGGAACCAAUGGCAGUCUUUGAUUUGUAUGAUAUCUGCUGCAGCACCUAAUGUGGAGACACAAUUGGUUAGGGGAGAUCCUCUCUCCACUUUCACAUUCUUGGUGAGUCUAGAAAAAAUUUCUGAGCUUUAAGUUGAUUGCUAACAAAAAGUUUUAAAUUGUGGCUGUGAUCAUUGAUAUAUUCGGAAGAAUUGCGGUCAAAUGUAUCGAUCUGAUGCAGCCUUAAUUGCAGUUGCUUGUCUGACCAGUGCUAGUCUCUCACACUAACACUUGUGAUUACAUUUAAUUAUAUUAUUUUCUCAAAUUAUUACUGGUAUCAUGUAUCAGUGUCGUGUUUGUGUGAUCGUGUUUACGUAGGUGCUUCAUAGGUAUACCAAAUACCAAUACCCAAUUUGGCAUUUCACACUGUUUCUACUGCUAGUAAGAUUUAAACCAUAAUGACACUGCCCAAGUUUUGUUUGGUAAGAUUUAGAUUUUGGUUCAAAAGGAAGAGGUAGAUAAGAGCUAAUAGCUAUGCUAAUUUCCAGCAAUAAAAUAGUUGUUCCCCUCUUUGUAAAGUUUCAUUCAUGAUAUCACAAAGAGGUAGGGUCGUAUUUGUUUGGUAUAAGACAAAGAAGCUGUUGAAAAAAGUGUUUGUAAAACAGUGUCAAUUGAAUCAUUAGAUAGAUAUGAGGGGCCUCAAAAUAUUUUCAAGAAUUUUGAUUAUUUAUCCUGUAGAAUAUUGACUAUGCAAACAAGAGAAACAUUUUAGAGAUGUUAAAAUUGAAUAUGAUUUGGUAUAUGCAGGACUAUGAUGUGAACAUUUCAUUUCAUAGAGUUCCUUAUUUAGUAGAUAUUGAUGUGGUCCAAGGGAAAAGAAUUUUAAGGCUUGAUGAGGCAGAUAAGAAUGGUGACACAUGGAAGAAUGUUGAUGUGUUGGUGUUCAACACAGGACAUUGGUGGAGUCAUCAAGGAUCACUUCAAGGGUAGGCAAGAAUAGUAUCUUCUCUUUUUUAAGCUUAUUCAAGAAAAUACUAUAGGAAAAUUGAUUUUUUUUUUUGGGCUGUUUUUGUUGAUUAAUUGAGUGCAGGUGGGAUUAUGUAGAAUUAGGAGGGAAUUUUUACCCUGAUAUGGAUCGAUUGGUAGCUUUGGAAAGGGGUAUGAAAACAUGGGCUAAUUGGGUGGAUGCUAAUAUUGACAGAAGUAGAACCCAUGUGUUAUUUCAGGCAAUUUCUCCCACACAUUAUGAGUAAGGACUCUUCUAUGUCUCUAUUUUGGACCAAUUAUUAAUAAUUGAUUUUUUUUUUUUUUACUAAGCUAUAAUUGAUUAUCAAUGACUUGAAAAUAGGGCAGUCAAUAUUAAUUUAGUGAUUUAAAAAUGGUUAAAUUUAACAAGUUACAUAAUUAAUCAGACUCUUGAAGCAAGAUGCCAAAUUAACUUUUUCCCUGAAGUCAAACUAAAUUUUCAUUUUUUUUUUUUUCAUUUGCAUUCAUCUGAUGAGCUGCUUCUAGAUCUGGAAGUAGGACCUUGCUUUUGACUAUCCUUGAUUAUUCUAUUUCUAUCCUGAGGCUGAAAUUUUUUGGCUUGUUUAUUGGUGCCAUCUUGUCACAGAAUUAUGAAUCCGCACUUCAAUGUGCUGAGCUUAGAAGAAAAUAUGUCAGCCUAGUUAUAAGGGAUCCAAUGAAAACACAUAAAAUAGAUAAAGAAUUAGGAAGAAAAAAUGGUUGUGAUAAGAAAUCUUUAAAUCAUGUAAGAUCACAUGAAUCAGAUGGUUCUAAACUCUUUCAAGAGAGUUCUUGGUUCAAAUUCAGACCGGAGAAUGCAAUAAUGUUAAACCUGUUAGAGAAAGCUUUACUAUCUAAUUUGGACCUACCUGACUUAAGAGAUUAGUCUUUGUAAUUGCACGCAAAUAUACACAUCUUUUUUAAUAGAUAGAUAAAAUGACAAAGUCAUUAUAAACUCACACACAAGUGGAAGUGUUGGGGUUCGAACCCUGGUCAUGAUGUCUGACCUAACAAUUUCGGCAUUUUCGCUAGUUGAGCUACAAUACGUGGAUAGAUAUACUUGUUUUAUAUUGAGGGAAAUAUUUUUUGAUGAUUUUUUAGUAUAAACAAGUAUAAUAAAUAAAUUGGUUAGAAAAUAAAGUAUGCUGAAUAAAUUUCUAGGUAAUUAAGAUACAUCUUUUUACUAGCAUUACCAAAAGAAUAUAUAAUUAUGAAAACUAUGUCUUAAUCUGAUGAGCCAAGGUAGCAACAUCACACAUGAAGAUGUUAAGUUAUGUAACACUGAAUGAAAGAAUCAGCCCAAUUGAGUAUGAAGAAAAGAAUUGCUUCUUUACUUGUGGCAUUAACUCACUGAGGCACUGACCUUAGCUAAAAAUAGCUUUUUUAGAAAUCAAGCAUUGAUAUGUAAUAAGGGCGUUUGGAUUCAUUUAUUUACUGCGAUAAACACUCGUGAGAAUAUUGGGAGAGCUUAUUAAAACAACUUAUAACAUGCCCAUAAGUUGUUUUUAGCUUAUUUGCAUGAGCUUUUCAGGUUAGCUUAUGACUGAAAAAGUUUAUAGUUUAUAUGUAAACAGUUUGCUUUGUUUUGUAUUUUACUAUAUAAAUAAUUUAUAUGAUAAGUGCUUAUGCUAUAAGUUCAUAAUUAAAUUGUGUAUUCAAACAGGGCCUAAUAAUUAAAACAGGAAUUAGUGCUUUUCAAAUUUGACAGUAAAAAUGUAACAUGGCUUUAUUACAUUAAUAUUUGGUUAAGCUAGUAUGUAUGUUUUUCAAACAAAUUUAUGCUAAGAUUUGGUUGCACUGAACACUGAUAUUUAUAUGUAGCGAAAAUGAAUGGAAUUCAGCUGUUGGUAGAGCAACAAGUGUAACGACGACAAAGAAUUGCUAUGGUGAAACAGCACCAAUCAGUGGCACAACAACAGACUUUGGAGGAGGAGAAACAUACACUGAUCAACAAAUGAGAGUAGUUAACAUGGUGAUUCGAGAAAUGCGCGAUCCUGCAUAUCUUCUUGACAUCACAAUGUUAUCAGAAAUGAGGAAAGAUGGACACCCUUCAAUUUACAGUGGUGAAUUGAGUUCCCAGCAGAAAACUGACCCUGAUCACUCAGCUGAUUGUAGCCAUUGGUGUCUUCCUGGUUUGCCUGAUACUUGGAAUCAACUGCUCUAUGUUGCUUUAUUCUAUUAAGUUCAUUAGUACUUAAUUAGGUAUUUUACAAGGCUUUAAUUAACACUGUAUGAUUACUCUUAAUAGCUGUGAAGUUAUAUAUAUACAUUUUAUAGAACCAUUUUGAUCAAGAGAGAAAAUAGAGAGGUACAACUCAGGGAGUUGAGAUUUUCCUUUCAUAGAAAGUCUUUUACAAACUGUUGCUGCAUUCAGCUUGAUCAUAGUGAUGGGAUCGACCUCAGUGAGGAUAAAGGAGACAGUUGCUCCGAACCUCGGUAAUCUUUGUGUUUUCAAGAUUUUACUUUCUGCAAUCUUUCUUUCAUAAUCACGUUUAGAUUUGCUUGACCGGUUUCGACUUCAACUUGUUUCGCUAAAGAAUUCUGUCUUGUUCAAAACUCGUCUUUUGUUUCAUAACAUUAUCUCAGUCAAGUGUUAUCAACCAUCGUCUGGAAACUCAACAAGCCACAAUUAAGUCAAUGUCACACAAACACAAACCGUUGAACAAGUAGCAUGAGACGUGAUUAAUCCUCAUGAGUUUAUCUGUGUGGUGCGCAGAUCAUCUAGGAUAUAACAUGCUCACGCCGGCCAAGGUAAAGGUAUCAGAUAAAUUAAAUUAUAACUUUUAUGUGAAUAUCAACAGCUUUAAGCCAGCUUAAUGUGACAGUAAGAGUCGAAACUGUUCCAAUAAGUAAAACUUGAUGCAAUUUGUAUAUAGGCAACACAUUGCUUUGAAACCAAAUAGAUUAAGAUAACAGUUCAAAUUACAGAAUUCCAAAUGAUACAAGAUGCAAUACUUAUUUAAAGCCUUAUAAUUAUAUUAUAUAGCAUCAUUUCAUUGCCCCAGAUAAAUAAUACAGCAGGCGAAUUCUUCAUUCAUGUUAAUUAUUAUCUUCAUUCUAGCACAGUCGCUUCGUGCCACAGCUCAAACUAGCUCUGAAUGGCAACCUCAACUGGAGAAGCUUCCAAUGGUAUAAUCUUCUCAAAUUCUACAGGUUUGUUGACCAAGGUUUUCUGGUUUUCGUAAGCUGAAUCAUGAACUCCAAGUGCUGCUCUACCAGAAGGAUCAAGGUUCUUGGACCAAGAAGCAUCCCACUCAACAGCCUUAGCUGUGCUACAUGCAACAGUUGGUCCUCCAGGAACAGUUAGCCUUGCUGAGUUCUGCAAAACAAUUAAAAAAAUCAUCAAUAUUUUAAUCAACCCUUGUUAAAUUAUGUUGUCUUAUGGUCUACGAAGCACUGACACAGACACAAACACCAAAUACGACCUGAUACUGACACGUAAACACCAGUAAUGAUUUAAGAAUAUAGAAGUGAUUGAAUGUAAUCAUAUAUGUCAGCGGCCAACACCAUCACGUGUCAAACACCAUAUACACCUUUAAUCUGAAGUAGCAGUGCUACAAAGCUUAUAUCGUUACAACCGAUUAAAAAGAGUUGAUUGAAUAACUUGCCUGGGGGAAGAACCUCUCAAAGAUCAUUCUGUAGUAGUAUGCUUCCUUGGUGUUUGGGGUGUUGUGGGGGUAGAUAUUGCCAGCAUUAAGCAUCAUCCUAUCAGUCACCUAAUGGAAAAUGUGAAGAACCAAUUAUAAGUAACAUAAACUUUGUGACAAUAGAAAACUCCAUCACUAAAUUGUAGAGUAAAAAGGUUGGAUUCAAAUACAUGUUUUGCAGCAUGAGCUUUAAGGCCAUCAAUCCAACUAUAACCAACACCAUCACUGAAUUGUUCCUUCUGCCUGUAUAAAAUGUGCUGCAUGAAAAUGAAUGUUUCAAUGUUAGUUUCGCAAACCAAUUUUGCAUAAAUCAAUAGACAUUGCAGCAAAUUACUUAGUAGUACCUUUGGCAGAUAAGGAUUCUCUUCAUCAUCGAAGGCCUUCCUCAGAAUAUACUUCUCAAUUCGUCCUUCAUCUUUUUUUAUCUGCACGUUUUAAACAAACCAGCUUAGUUAGUACCCGCGAAAACAUUUCCUGUUUUCCAAGAUUUGUACAAGAAACACUAAAAACAACUAUUAUGUUUUCGGUAUUUCAUGUAGAAUUAUUGAAUCAACAGAGUAACACUAAUUACUCAUACCAUUUUAUUCUCAGGAUCAAUAUUCAUUGCAACAUUGAUAAACUCCUUGUCCAAAAAUGGAACUCUGGCUUCUAGACCCCAAGCAAAGGUUGAUUUAUUUGCUCUCUGGCAAUCAUAUUGGUGGAGUGCUUUGAUCUGCAUAUGAAAAAGUAAAAAAAUACAUCUAUUAAUCAUUAUACUUCAACUUCUUUUAUUAUUUUCUAACAUUGAACUUCAUAAUUCUAAAUUAAAUGACCUUGCGGCAUGUUUCUUGGUGGAACUCUUCCUUGUUUGGUGCCUUGUGAAAGUACAGAUAUCCACCAAAUAUCUCAUCAGAUCCUUCACCAGAGAUCACCCAUUUGACACCAAGUGAUUUAAUCUUCCUUGACAUAAGAAACAUAGGUGUACUUGCUCUAAUUGUAGUCACAUCAUAUGUUUCAACAUGGUAUAUAACAUCCUCAAUUGCAUCUAUACCAUCCUAUAUAACAUAAAACUAUAUAUUAAUCAUUUCAUAAUCUCGAUUUCAAAAAUUGAAGUAGCCCUAACUGUAAGCUAAAAAAGUACUAUUUCAAGCAGUGUUUUUAGAACCAGACUGUUGGUUGGUUCAAUCGGUUCUUUUUAAUACUUAUUUAACAGUCAACCGAUUAAAUCAUUUGAACCAUGACCUAGAAGGUUUCGUCGGUUCGAUCUCUAGUCAAAUUUUUAAAACAUUGAUUUCAAGCAGUUACCUGAACAGUAAAGGUAAACUCAUGGUGAACAGUUCCAAGGUAAUCUGCAACUUCUUUUCCAGCCUUAAGAUCAGGUGAGCCCUAUUUGAAAUUAGAAGACAAGAUAUUAAGACAACAUUGAAGGUAUUCUUUUUAAAAAUAAAAGAAUUACAUAAAGUUUGCGAAAGUGAUUCAAAAAUUUAAGUGUAUAUAUGCACCUCAAGGCCAACGCAGAAUGAGUGUAAUUUUGAUCCCCAUUGUUCAGCAGCUUUAGUGGUUGCUAGGUAGCGAGAAGUGAUGGAUGCAACCAAUGAUGAGUCCAAACCUCCAGAUAGUAGAACACCAAAAGGCACAUCAGUCAUCAACCUCUUUAUCACUGCCUGUAAUCACAACCAACCAAGAGGUAAGUAAAAUCUAACCAAAAAUUGUUUAAGUCAGAAAUUGAACUUGAACACUCUCGACCAAUACAUUUUAUCUUUUCUAGUCAAACGAGGUUUGACGACAAAAUCAACUGACAUAAACCAUAUACUAAUGUUUUCACUAAAAUCAUAUAUGACAUGACGCAAGAUCAAUCAUGUUAACUAUGCACCGUAAGUCUAAAACUUUCAAUCCAAUUAUGUGCUAUGAUUUUUAUGAAUCAUACCUUCUCAAAGGCAUGCCUCAAAGCUAGAGGAUCAUAAGGAGCUGAUGGAAUAGCCUCAGAGUACCAGGGAGGAUUGUACCAUCUUCUAAAUCCACCAUCUUUGCUAGAGUACAAAUGACCAGGUGGAAAACACUCAAAAUGUUCACAAUCAUCAUUCAAGGCUUUCAUUUCUGAUGAAAUCCAAACAGAACCUGAAUCCAGACACAUUCCAAAACAUGUUCAAAUACAAACUCAAAAAAUCCAUAAAUUAAAUUAUAAGAUAAGAUAUAACAUAACAUUACCAUCCAAUCCCCAACCAAUGUAUAGGGAAGUUACUCCUAUAGCAUCUCUAGCCACUAUGUAACUGUUAUCACGAGUAUCCAAUAGAACAAAGGAAAAGAUACCAUCCAACUUGUCCACAAAGUCUUCUCCAUAUUCCUCGUACUAAUCAAAAGUUUAACAUCAGUAACAAACAGUUCAUAAGCACAUGUUUAAUCAAGAAUCCAAACCAAACAAAUUAUUACAUCAAAGAUUACUAACCAAGUGUGCAAUAACAUCACAAUCACUUCCCGUUCGGAAUGUGUGAUUAGACAGCUGUUUCCUGAGAGCUUCAUGGUUGUAAAUCUCUCCAUUUACCUGAUUUUCCAAUAAUGACAGAAUUUACCAACAUUAAAUUAGUAAAGUACUAACAUAAUCAUUAUUGUUAUGGACACUCACAUAGACAUGAACAUUAGAUACGACAAUGACACUGACACGUAAAUAUCAAUGAUAACAUAAAAAUGACUGCAUAUUAUCACAUGUGUUAGCGUUGUAUCUAUACUGUUGUUGUCUGACACUCACGCCUUCAAUAUAAAGCGUCGAUGCUACAUGUGUUGUAAUUGAUUUAGCAUAUGUCAUAUAAAUGGCCUACCGUGACAAUGACAGAUUUGUCUUCAUUAAAGAGAGGUUGAUCCCCAGAAGCAGGAUCAACUAUGGCUAACCGUUGGUGUGCCAAAAAGCAGUCACCAUGUUGGUGGAGCCCACUCCAAUCAGGGCCACGGUGCUUCAAUCUGUUACGUCAACAAACAAAUAAUCAAUAAUCAAUCAAUUAUCCAUAUUCAGACACAUUAAACUAAAGGACAAUAAUAUUCUUUCAAUGUUACUAUGUCACCACAUAUUUUUUUAAUAAAAUUACAUUUUAUAUGAGUUGAGUUUGGACUUUACAAUGUUGUAGCAUAUAUUACGCACCACCUAGAAAAUCUUUAUAAGAUGAGUCACAUAAUUAAUAAUUGAACCAAUAUUAGUUUAUCAAAAAAUAAAACUUGAGCUUAUGAAAAAUGUAACUUUCAGUAGAUAUAUUCUAUUCGAUUAAGUAUUAUCAUAUGGAAAAAAGAAUAUAGUUCUACAAUUAUUUAACUCCUUUUAAUCUUUUGUUGUUCAAUUGUCAUUGCUCCUUUGAAUUGUUCAUAGUUCCCACUACAAAAUUUACCAAUAAUUCCAUUUCAAACUGGACCCCACAUACCACUUGUUGGUCCUAAUUGAUAAACAAUCAGUGAUCUGAUUGGAAUAUAUAUUGCCCUCUUAUCUUAUAAAAUUCUUGUUGUUUAAUCUAACUUGAUGGGCAUGGUGACCCAAUAUAAAGUUACCAUGGUUAAUUAAACUAAUUAAAAAAUUUAAAAUAAACAUUCUAUGUUCUCUAUAAUAAAUUAAAGAGUGACUUUUAAAUAAAGUGGAGUGUUAUGAUUACAACUGUUGAAGUUAUAAUCAUAUUAUAUAUAAAUAAAUUAUAAAAUUAGUUAAAAACUUCAAUCAUUGGUUAUUUUUAAUUAAUGAAUAUGACAUGUCUCUUUUUUUAGUCUAAUUACAAAUAUGACGAUUGAAACAAGGAAUAUGGAUUAUGUCACUUGGGUCCCACGUUUAUUCUUAAUCAUCAUCCAAAAUGACAAGAUCAUCACGACCCUGCUAAACAAAGAGUAUUAUUCUGUCUUGCUAUCCAAAUCAGCCACUCUUAACAAGGAAUUUGUUGCUGCACAUAGUAAUAUUCAGCACCAAUUUGCAAAUAGAAACACCCAAAAAGUCAUGGUUGGAUAUAAAUUUAUCCAUAUUAUCUAAUAUAUUUUAUUUAAUAAUUAAAGUCUUCCUGAUUGAUUUUAGAAAGUCCAUAAUGAAAAGCUAAGUAAAUACAAUUAAGAAUGAACAAUUUGAUCUGCAAAAUUUAACAAAUUUUAAUGAAAAAUAAACAAACAUUCGUUCACAUUAGUCUUUUUGCAUCGGUCCAUUUAUUUUUUAUAUUGUCGUGAACGACUAAUGUGAUCAAGAAUUUUUCAAAUCUAAUCAGGUCGAAACCACUAUAAUUGGUCUAGUAGUAAAAGAUUUAGAUAGUAAACAUAUGAUUUUGAUGCACGAUCAAUAUACUAUUACACUCUCAAUUAAUCACAAGAUCGUGUGCAUGGUUUUGAAGUUAGAUAUGAUGAAAGUUAAACUUUGGUUACAAUUGAUUAACGGUGUAAAAAAUCUUUAUACCGACCAGUGCAUAUAGAUUAAAUCCGACAAAAGUAUCAUGUGUAAAACAUGAAAUUAAGAAUACAAGAAUAGAAAGAGAAUAAUUGCCUGCGUGAAAGCUCAAGGACACGAACCCUCUUAGCUCUAGUAGGAUCAGAGCAACCAAGCACAGCAAGAAUACCACACAUUGUAGUAUAUGUUUAUAUGAUGAAGAAAUCAAAGAGAGAAAUAAUUUAGAAUAAGCUUAGCUUAGUUAGAAUAAAGAAGAAAAGAUAAGUGAAGAACACAACCACAUGUAGUAGUUGUAGUAAUGGUUUUGAAAUUGAAGGCUUAAAGGAAAUAAUUUAGGAUACAUAACACUUCUUACAACACGUAUUUAUAAGACAUAAUGUGAAUGAUAGACAUAAAAUGCUGACGGUGAAACGACGUCGUUUUUCUAUCAUUCAAUGUACUGUUAUUGCUACUAGUUGGUCCAUGACACUAGACAUGGGACCCACAUCUUGUACCAAGUAUAUUAUGCCAUGUGGUGAAACGUGGUUCGUUCUUGGUAUAGACUUUUUUUGUUAUUUAAUUUUUCUUUUAAGUGUAAAAUAAAUAUCCAGUAAUAUAUCAUUAUUAUUUUUUGGUUUUUUAUUCUAGUUUGUGUUCACAUGCUACAAUUUUGUUCCUUAUCAAAAUACUAUCUUUUGUUAGUAAAUUUCAUGUGUAUUAGGCAGCUAGUUGUUAACUUGAUAACUUCAUCUUUCAUCAUGAACUAAUGAAGGUUUUUUUUUUUUUUUUUUUUACAAAAGCUAAUGAACCUUUUAAACUAUGUUAGAUUUUUUAAUUUGAUCCUUAUGUUUUUGUUUUUAAAAUAAAUAUUCCAACAAAUAAAAGAAAUCAUUAUUAUUUUAUCUAUCAAAUGCUUGAUUGUAUGAGUAGGUCGUCAUACUUCACCACUCAAUUGAAUGGGCUAAUCUUUUACAACGUGAAGAAUGAAUUUUGAUUUGUGGUUUGAAGUGGUCAUAUUUGGCGGUAACAAUGCUUCAAAAAUUAUUAUUUUUCAUGGAAGAAAAGGUGAAAAAAUGGGUGACUAAAUUAAGUCUUUGUCAUGAGCGAGAUUGUUUAUGAUAGAAAGUCUUUCUCUUAUUUAACAUUAUGGUAAAAAGAUACCCUUAUUGUUGCUUCAAAUAAUUUGGUGUCUAUAAAUAUUGGUGUUUUUAUAGGCAUCGUCUCUCUCCUCUUAUUUGCGGAUCUAUAAUACACAAAUAAUUGUAAAUCUCUUCCAUUUUAUAAUAUUUUAAUAUUAAAAAAUAAAUAAAAUAAUUGAUGCAAAUGAUUGAUUAUUUUAUCAACCUUCAAUUUUUAUUUUCAAUCAAAGACCAUUUUUAUUUUUCCUUACUACAGUGUUGAUCAGAAGCAUGAUGUUAUUUAAAUUAGGUAAUUUACCAUCAUUUUAAAUUAUUAUUUUCUAUUUUUAAUUAUUUUUCAAAUUAUUAAUAAAAGUGGGAAAAAAUAGUACAUAUUUUUAUAAUUUAUAAUUGAAUUAAAUUAAUUUUUCAAAAAUUAGAUAAUUAUGAAUAAAUGAAUAGAUAAAUCAUUGAAAAAAUUAAUGAUAUAGGAUUAUUGUUAGAAAUCAGUUAAUAAUUUUUUUUAAAUGCUGAGUUUGAGAGAUUAAGUGUUUAACAAGUAUUAGUUAUAAAACUAGUGACUUGUACAAACAAGAUCUGUUUAAACAUCCAAAUGCGGAGUUCCAUUGUGUAUGAUUUAAGGUCUAGAUUAACCUUAUGAUAGCUUUGUUGGAUAUUAAAUUUGAUUGCAAUGUAAAAGAAUUAUUUUUAUUUAAUUUUGGGGCUAUUAAGGAUGUUAAAUACUCUUUCUAAGGUAAUACUCCACUUUACUCUUAAAUUAUUAGAACUUCUCAUAUCUUUCAUGAUGGUGUUUCAUUAGAUACGCAGAUUUAGUAAAUGUAACAGCAUUUUCCUCGUAGUAUAAUGAAAACAUCUUGUGAUAGUCUUGUUUAGGGGUCUUCAUGUACCUCAAUAUUUUCAUGCCCAAAAGAUUACAAACUCUUUAACCUUGUCUCAUGAAUAGAGCAUUGGUCUAGAUACAUAUUGCAACAAGUUUUAAUACCUAGGGCAUAAGUUUUAAUAUAAUCCCUAGAAUAAAUGCUCAAAGCAAUUGAGUUAAAAGAUGUUUUAAUAUUUAACAGACUUAAAAUGGAGAUAUUUUAAUCCUCGUUUGGCACUAGAUACAUAUUAUGAAUAUAUAUUGGUUUUUUUAAUUUUGAAUUAUAACCACAAUGAGACGUAUUUAAGAUAAUGUAAGAAUUAUGAACUCUUAGUUAAAGAUUUAGUGUAGUAUUGUUAUUAGGCUUAUGGCUUGUAAGUCUAGACAUUGUUUUAGUGGGUUUAGAGUAUAAGAUAAGACCCUCGGUUUAUUGGAUAAAACAUUCUAUGUUGAAGUAUAUUGUUAAUAUUUAGAACACAGUAGAAAAUAGAAAGACAAGUGAUAUAUAAUUCUCAUUGAUCUGUGUGUAAAAGUACAUGACAGGUUUAUUUAUACACUAAAAUAAAGAGAAGACUAAUCAACAUGUAUAAAUACAAUUGAAUAGAAUACUAAUAAGCAGGCUAACUAAUAGGUUAUAGUUAAUGAUAAUUAAAUUAAAUAUUAACAUGUAACAUCCCCCCACAAGCUGGACUAUGAAGAUCACAUAGGCUAAGCUUGGAAACCAAGGAAUUGAAAGCUGGAGACAGAAGUGGUUUUGUCAACAAAUCUGCUAUUUGAGAAGAAGAUGGCACGGGAAAGAGAUGAAUGAGACCACUUUGAAUUCUUUCGCGCACAACAUGACAAUCAAUCUCAAUGUGUUUUGUUCUCUCAUGAAAUGUUGGAUUAUGAGCAAGAUAUAUGGCUGAUUUAUUGUCACAAUAUACUGAAGCUGGUUGUUGAAAGUUGAUAUGAAGAUCCUUGAACAAAUAGGAGAGCCAUUGUAAUUCACAAGUAAGGCUGGCCAAGGCUCUAUACUCAGAUUCAGAGCUGGAUCUAGAAACAGUUGUUUGCUUCUUAGACUUCCAUGAGAUGAGGGAAGAGCCAAGAAACACACAAAAACCGGAGACAGAUCGUCUAGUAGAGGGACAGCUAGCCCAAUCUGAAUCAGCAAAACCUGCAAGUUUGACGGGAGAUGAAGAUGAAUAGAAUAACCCUUUGGCUGGAGAGUUCUUGAGAUACUUCAGAAUCUUUGUAGCAGCUUGAAAGUGGACUUCACGGGGCUUGGAAACAAAUUGACUAAGUUGUUGAACAGCAAAAGCAAUGUCAGGCCGCGUGAGUGUCAAAUAGAGAAGUCUACCAAUCAAACUUCUGAAGGAGAAUUCAUCAUGAUAUGGAGGGGAAUCAGAAUUAUGCAACUUUAAGGAGGUAUCAUAGGGAGUGGAACUAGGCUUAACAGCCAUGUGACCACUAUCUUCAAGAAGCUCAAGAGUAUAUUUGCGUUGAUUCACCGAAAUUCCUUUGUUUGAUCUUGCUAUUUCCAAGCCAAGAAAAAAUCUUAGCUUCCCAAGGUCUUUGAUGCGAAAUUUUUGAUCCAAAAACUGCUUAACAUGCUGAAUUUCAGCAUAAUCAUUUCCUGAUAAAACUAUGUCGUCCACAUAAACUAAUAAGGCAGUAAAAUUGGUACCUUUUAGCUUAGUGAACAAAGAAGAAUCAGCAACAGAAGGAGUGUAUCCGAGAGAAACCAACGCUGCAGAAAGUUUGGCAUACCAUUGCCUACUAGCUUGCUUCAAGCCAUAGAGACUCUUAUUUAACCGACAAACUUUAAGAUCAUUAGAAUCUGAAUUUUGAAGCUUCAGACCAGGGGGUAACACCAUGUAAACUUCUUCAUUGAGGUCACCAUGGAGAAAUGCAUUAUUGACAUCAAAUUGCUCAAGAAACCACCCUUUGAUGGCUGCCAAAGAAAGUAAUGUUCUAACUGUAGUCAUUUUUGCAACCGGUGAAAAAGUAUCAAAGUAAUCAACUCCUUCCAUUUGAGUAUAACCCUUUGCAACUAACCGGGCUUUAUGCCUUUCAAGAGAACCAUCAGAGUGGUAUUUAGUUUUGUAAACCCACUUGCAUCCAAUUGGAACUUUUCCUGGUGGUAAAUCAACAAUUGACCAAGUAUUUGUGGCUGCAAGAGCAUGUAACUCAGCUUUCAUAGCUUCUUUCCAACAUUCAAUCUUACAAGCUUGAUUAUAGGUCUUAGGUUCAGGGUUAGAAGAAACAGUUAGACAAAAAUUUUUAUAUGAAGGAGUGCAAUGAUCAUAUGUCAAAACAGAAGAGAGAGGAUAUGCCGAUUUACCUGAGUCAGAGAGUAAUUGUGAUUCAGAAGAAGUAAGGAGACUGCAGUGAUAGUCUUUAAGAUAUGCCGGUGUUGUUUUAGGUCGUGCAGAUCGUCGAAUAGGUACAUCUGUUGUGGUCUGAUCUGGAAUAGCUGUUGCAGAAGAUGUAGCAUUAGGAGGGGUAGAAUUAUGUGUUGUAGAAGUAUCAGAAUUAUCAAGGUUUUGAGAGAGAGGAAAAGAAGAAUUUGGAAUAACAGAUGAUUGGAUGGGUUCAUGAUAGGAAGAAAGAUGUGAAUUAUCAACGGAGACAUGAGGUGUAGAGGAAUCAGGGGAACAUCGUUCAUGCAAUGUAGAAAAUGGAAAAGAUGAUUCAUGAAAGAUGACAUUUCUUGAUAAGAAAAAUUCAUGUGAAUGAAGAUCAUAAAGAAGGUAACCCUUGGUGCCUUCUCUAUAUCCAAGAAAAACUGAUUUUCUUGCUCUAGAAUCAAAUUUGGUUCUAUGACUUUGGAUGGUGGAGGCAAAAGCAAGGCAACCGAAGACUUUUAGGUGAAUUAAAGAAGGUUGUUGUUGGUGAAGACAUUCAUAUGGGGAUUUAUUUUGUAGAAGGGGAGUUGGGAUUCGAUUAAUGAUAUGGACAGCUUGUUGAAUUGAAAAAUGCCAAAAAUUGGUAGGGAUAUGAGAUUGAAAGGAGAGGGCUCGAGCCACAUUAAGGAUAUGUUGAUGCUUCCUUUCUACAAUACCAUUUUGUUGAGGAGUCUCAACACAAGACCUUUGAUGAAUGAUGCCUUUAGAAAGAUAAAAUGAAGGCAUGAUGAACUCAAGUCCAUUAUCACUUCUCAAGCAUUUAAGUUUCUUAUGGAAUUGAGUAUCAAUGAAAGAAAUGAAAUUCAUGAGAUGAUUUCUUGUUUCACCUUUACAUUUCAUAAAAAUGACCCAUGUAAAUCUACUAAAGUCAUCAACCAAGGUUAAAAAAUAUUUAAAUCCGGAAACAGAAGGGGUAGCAUAGGGUCCCCAAAUAUCAACAUGUAGUAUAUCAAAUAUUUGAGUGGAAUGAAUAAGACUAUGAGGAAAUGAUGUUUUCUUAUGUUUUGCAUAAUGGCAUAUAUCACAAGGAGAGUGGGUACUGGUGUAUUUUACAAUGGGAAACUGAAUGGAAAUACAUUUGUGUAUGGAAUCCGAAAUGUGACCCAAUCUAUAAUGCCAAACAUUUGCAGAAUCAGUUGACUUAGACGACAAACUUGGAAAAACAGAAUUACAAAUUGAAGCAGAAACUAAACCAUUAUUUUGAGAUUUAUUUAGCAGUGAAGAAUCCAACACAUACAGUCCUCCAAACUUCUUAGCUGUACCAAUCACUCUCUGAUUCAAAAUCUGCACAAUAGAACAUGUAUCAAUAGAAAACAAGAAACUGGCAUUAGAAGUUUUCAAAAAUUGAGAUAUUGAAAAUAAAUUGAUGUUGAAAUCAGGAAUGUAGUAAACAUUAUGAAGGAUAAGUGAAUUGGAUAAGGAUACUGUGCCUGCUAUGGUUGUCACUAUUUUAUUACCAUUUGGUAGUGACAUGGAGAUAGGUGGAAUGUUGUAGAAAGAAGAAAAAUUUUGCAAACAGUGAGUGAUAUGAUCAGUUGCUCCUGAGUCUAUGACCCAAAGAGUAGAUUUCUUACCGAUUAUGGGAGUGGAUGUGGAAGUAUAAGCUGCGGGAAGUGAGAUAACUGAAUUGACAGCAGGCUGAGGCAUAGUAGCAUUGGUGUUUGACGUUGAAGCUUGCAAAUUUGAAUGUUGUAGAAGCUGCAAAAUCUGAUUAUAUUGCUCAUGGAUAGAAUUCAGUGAAGGGCUGCUAACAGAUCCUUGGUUCUGGACAGCAUCAGUAUACUUUUGUUCAGAAACCGCAAGAUUCGCUGACUUAGGACCUUUGUUUUGAUAACCAGGAGGAUAGCCAUGGAGAAGGAAACAAGUCUCAAUUGUAUGAUUAUGUCUUCCACAAUGACUACAAGUGCGAGUAAUGCCUUGAUUAUGUCCUCUUGUUCCAUUAUAAGAUCCUUUACCUCGACCUCUAUAGCUAGAAGAACCACCACGAGCAAAACCUUUGUUAGAAUUGGUUUGCUGAACUUGAUUAACAGCUGAUUGUUGAUCAACAGGAAUUUCACCAAAAACAGGAAUAUGUGUUUGUCUUUCUUGUUGAAGUACAAGAGAAAAAGUCUUAUCCAGUUCAGGCAAAGGAUUAAUUAGCAUAAUCUGAGAGCGCACAUGUGCAUAUUGCUCAUUCAAACCUUUCAAAAACUUAAUUACUUUGUCUUGCUCAUUAUACUUUUUGAGAUCAGAAGCAACACCACAAGUGCAAGGGAUGGCACAAGUGCAAUCACGAAUUGGCCGGAAGUUCUGAAUUUCUUCCCACAAAGUGGUUAAUUGUGUAAAAUAGGAGGAGAUAUCAAGAUUACCUUGUUGAAAUUUAGCCAAUUCCUCAAGAAUAUCAGCAACUCUGAAAAUAUCACCCUGUGCAAAACGGUUCUCCAAUCGCUUCCAAACCACGGAGGCUCGAUCACACCAAAUGAUUGAUUUCACAAUGGUUUCAGAAAUACAUCGUUGAAGCCAAGACAGAACCAUGUUGUUACAUCUUAACCAUGGUUCAUGAAGGAGAUCUGAAACAGGAGGAGGAUUUAGGGUGCCAUCAACAAAUUUCAAUUUGUUCUUGGAAAUUAAGGCGACCCGCAUAGAUCGCGACCAAGUCUGGUAAUUCUUGUUAUCCAAUGAUGGAGUAACAAGAACAAGUGAUGGAUUUUCAUUAGGAUGCAAGUAGUAAGGAUUUGAAGGAUUGGUUGCAAAAUCAAAAAAUGGUGGAUUCUCCAUAGAGAUGAAAGAAAUCAAAUAAUCAAGGAAUCAAAUGAACAGCGGAAUGAAAACUGAAAAUAAAAAUUCAGAAAUUGAAUAAUAAAGAGGAUUCUUGAGAUGAAUCGAUCAACAAGAGAAAUUGAUGAAGAGAUUCACAACUGAUACCAUGUUAAUAUUUAGAACACAGUAGAAAAUAGAAAGACAAGUGAUAUAUAAUUCUCAUUGAUCUGUGUGUAAAAGUACAUGACAGGUUUAUUUAUACACUAAAAUAAAGAGAAGACUAAUCAACAUGUAUAAAUACAAUUGAAUAGAAUACUAAUAAGCAGGCUAACUAAUAGGUUAUAGUUAAUGAUAAUUAAAUUAAAUAUUAACAUGUAACAUAUAUUGAUACUAAUACUCUAGAAGUACACAAUAUUUACAUGUUAAUUUAUAUGCAUUUCGUUUGUAAAUGGUGUAGACAAGGAAUUGCUAAUUUUAAGUAAUAACUAUACAUACAAGUGUAUGUAAUUCAAGUGAAUGUUUUUUAUGAUGUGGACUAUUGAAUCUAUUAUAAUUUUUUAUUAUGCAAAUAAAAUUCACUUGCACACAUCAUUAACAUUGUAGAAAAAAAUAUGACUACAAUGUAAAUCAUCAAAGACAUUUUAAUGUUUUUCUACUAUAGUGUAAUCAUCAGAGAUUUAGUAAUGAAGUUACAUAUCUAGUCAUGCUUCUGGUUUCACACUCUACACCUGUGAAACCCGGAUACCAGAUACGAUACUGCACCGAUACGUCGAUACAGAAAAAAAUUAAAAAUCAAGAUACGAUACGGUUGGGAUACGUUAAUAAAAAAAUUAUAUAAUUAAAUGUACAAUAUAGUUAUAACCAUUUUUUUUAAUAUGCAAAUAUAUUAACAAGCAAAAGAAACCGGUCAUAGGCUCCUAGCACAUCAACAUAAAUAUAAAUAAUAUUGACGAUUAAGAGAGUGAUGAUUAGUCAAUUAGAAACACAAUAUAUCCACAAAAAAAAAAAAAACACCAUUAGUGCUAUACUAUAUCCAAAAUGAACAUUGUUAGUGUUAUACUAUAUCGAUCCAAAAAAAGCACUAUAUUCAAAAAAGAACACAUCACUACUCAGGAGUUAAGUUAUUUUAGUUAACAUUAAUUGGGAAAUAUCAGGGCAGAUAUCGGUGCAGAAUAAUUAUUGAAUACUCUCCUGGUACGUGUAUCGGGAAGUAUCGGAUAAUUAUUUUUUUUUAAAAUAAAAUUUAAUCUUCGGAUACUCUCCUGAUACGUAUCGGGAAGUAUCAGGCAGGUAUCGGUGCAGGAUACGCAGGGGAUACGGUACGUCAUCCAUUUUGAAGUAUCGGAGCUUCAGCUACACACAUCAUCAAAGACAUUUUAAUAUUUUGGUGCUAUUAAGGAUAUUAAAUACUUUUUCUAAGUUAAUACUCCACGUUACUCUUGAAUUAUUAUAACUUCUCAGAUGUUUCAUUAGAUACAAAGAUUUAGUAAAUGUACAACAUUUUCCUCAUAGUAUAAUCCAAAACCACUUGUGAUCGAUAAUUUUGUUUAGGGGUCUUAAUAUAUCUCAAUAUUUUCAUGCCCAAAGAUUACAAGCUCAUUAACCUUGUCCGGUAAAUAUGGCAUUGGUCUUUUUUCUUUUUCUUAGUUAAAGAUUUAGUAUUGUUAUUAAGCUUAAGACUUAGUUAAAUAACUUAUUUUAAUAUUUUGUAUUAACUAGUAGUUUUUUAAACAACAAUAGGAUGGGAUUGAGUCCAGAAACAUGAUAUGUGCAUAAUUGGCGUCGAAUUAUUUAUAAUUAUUACUAAUAUAAAAUAUGGUCAAUUAUUUUACCAAAAAAUAUGGUCAAUUGUUAUUGAGCACUAAUUAUGGAUAAAUAAUUUGAUUAUAAAUGGACCGUGAUGGGUUUGACGAUUUAAUAAGUUCAAUAAGAGAUCUCUAUCUUGAAUCGUUUAACUAUUAAAACUUUAUCACUAAGACGUUUAGAAAUACUGUGAAACCUAAUCUAUGAACCUAAAGAUGAUGAGGAUAGUGCAGGCCUCUCAUAGUUGCUCUCUCAUCGGUUGUGUCAAAUCAUAUAUGUCUGAUAAAAUAUGGGUAGAGUUACUUGAUGACAAUCAAAAUCGUUUAUUUUUCUUUAAUUAUUUGUGUUAUAUUUAUAAUAUAAAUAGAAUAUUUUAUAUGUUGCUAAUAAUAAUUUAUCCUGGCAGACAAGCAUGGGAUGAAUGAUCGAUUAUGAGACAAGUAUAUAUGAAGCCAAUGAAGUAGUUGUCUGUCCAAAAACUGCAUGCAACCCGAAAAUUGGAUAUCAGUACAGAUAAACCUCUUCUAUACGCUUAUCAAAAUAUCACAUGCAACAAAAAACACACGCAUGUAUUUUAGUCCCACUACUUUUCUGAAAUCUUUCAAUAUCAAAUCUCAACCAUUUUCUAGUUCAGUGAUUCAUAUUUACGUUUCCAUGUGGAAAAUGAUAAUAACCUUAACUGACCCAUUAAAUUAGGUUCUAUAUUAUUUCUUUUCAAGUAAAAAAUUUAACAGAAAUAGAAAAGUUAGUUUUCUAAGUUGUGUUAUGUUCCUUGCAAUGUAAUGCUUUUACUUGUCGAAGAAAGAAAAGAAACGUGAAUCUACUUAAUUUUAAUUCAUAUGAAUGAAUGAAUGAAUGGAUCCCCAAUUCCCCAUAACUUUACGUCAAGUGUAUUAUUUAAUUUAUUUACAUUAGGGUUCUUUAUAUAAUUUUUAACCAAUUAUAUAUGGUUGAGCUAUUUUAUGCUCACACUAGAUCUUUUUUUUCUUUUUCUAAUCAACAUAAACAUGGCUUAAAUUUGAGAUAUAUGAACAUGAGGCCCGUGUGCAUUACAUCAUGUGCAAUUAAGUUCGAUGGGUUUUGUGGCUUGGCUUUUAGGCAGAUCUUAGGGCUCAUUUAUGUUUGCAUGUGUAUAGUUAAUCUAAGUUUGAGGUUCUAGUUCGUAUAAAAUAAGUGGAGGACUAUAAUUGAUUGACAAGUGGGUGUCCUUUAAUUUGUUUUCAUGGUGGACAAAAAUUGAGGAUCACCCAUGUUUGAUUUAUGAAGAAAAAUAAAAUAAAAUUGUUAAUAAUUGUUAUAAAUUUAAUGAAUGACAUGCAAGAUUCAAGUGAUUAAUAAAUUUUAGUUAAAAACGAACUGAUAGGGAAUUUCGAAUUCGAUAUUUGGCUGAACAAUCUUUAAAAACUAGAGGUUAAGCUUUAGUUUGAUGUUAUGGGAUGCAGUAUCCUCCAGAUUAGUUUCUUCUCUUAGACAAUAAAACUAAUAUCAACAAUAAAAAUGAAAUUAAAAAUAUUAAGCUGAGCAAAAAAAAAAAAACUUGGGGCCUUCAAAACCCUACGAAGUCCCUGUCCACAGAAUUAAGUCAUAAUCUGAUGGUUAACUUUGUUUCUGAAUACGAUAUCGAUUUUUAGCAUCCAAAUCUUAGUGGCUUUUAGAGGUUACAUAGAGUUCUUUUGAUACUUCACUUCAUGACAAUUUAACAUGGUUUAUGCCUUACAAGUUUGGUUUAUGACUUUUGGUAGCUCUGUUAGGUCGUUUAUCAAUUUUUAUUUUCAUUAUUUCCUAAUCCACAUAAGUGAAGAUUUUGAUUGAUAAAGACUUUCUCAACCUCCUCAAUUCAUAUAGUUGCAUACAGCAUACUGUUUAUAUACAAUAAUAGAAAUGUUAGUUUAGUUCACUCUCAAAUCAAUUAAUGGAAUACAAUUACUUGUAAGCACCAAUAUAAAGUUAAAAUAGAAAUCAAAUAAAAAACUUCGCAGCAUUAUUGAACUCAACUGAAUUACAUAUAUAAUUUUGAGAAGUUUGUUUUUGAACAUUAGGUACGUAAUUGUCUAAUAGGUUCUCUCUAUAUGAGGUAAUCAUAUUUGAGGUGUACGUCGGUCUGCGACACCCAACAUGUGUUGGUUUACGUCGGUUUAUAUAAAAUAAACAAGAUACUUAAGAAAUUUGAUGAUUUUUCUAUCAUCUAUCUGCCAGUUUAAAUUGACUUAUUUGAAUUUAUUUGUUCAGUUUACUUUCAUAAACUCUAAGAAAAAUUAUGAUAACAGUUAUGACUUAUACAAAGUAAAUUAACUUUAUUUUAUCUUUGUUGUAAGAAUAUUUUUUACACAAGUGUUUACCAUGAACAGCAGAUUAAGUUACUUAUCCAAGUAUAUCAACGUGAUAAACGACUAAAAUGUUGUGUAAUUUCAUAAUCAUAUGGCAUAAAUACAGCAUCGAAGGGUUUCAUAAAAUCCUUCUUACUGUUAAAAUUAAAAUAUAUGAGCUGCUUAAUUAUAAUGUGUCACUGUGAUGAACACUCAGACAGUAGUAACUAGUAAUGGAAUCUAAAGUUCCUUACAAACUUAGCAUUGAUGAUACUCAACAUUACCGAUAACUUUGAUAAAAAUCAAUAAUGGCCAAAUAGAAACAUAGUAUGAUAAAAUUACAAAAUACAACUAGUGUACUUUCCCGUGCCAUGCCAACAUAAAUUAAAAUUUGGCAUUCUCUCUAAACUCAUUCGAGGAGCUAAUCCAUAUAACUAAUGACCUACUUAACUCUCUGUUUCUGUUGAUUUUUGUCCUUUCCGCGACCUCUUCCUUUUCCUGCUUCUCUUCACUGUGUUGUCUCCUUUGGUUUCCUGCGUAAGAGUCAAGUAAAGGAAACAUCUAACAGAUCAGUAAGAAGCAUGCAAAAUAUAAGUUCCAGCAGAUAAGACACAUUUAAAAUAUGCUAUAUACUAUAAAAUAGCUGAACUAAACUAAGGGGUUUGGAAUUUGUUUAAUAUGCAUGCAUAAACAAAACCAGAACAGCUAAGUAUAUAGCAUCUAAACUGUUUUGCGCAGUUGCAACAGCCAACGCUAUCUUAAAUUGAAAAGAAAACUAGCAUUACAGAAUUCAGUUUUUCAGGUUAGACGGUAUUCUAAAAAAGACAUGGUUAGCAGAAGGGUUCGGCUUGGAACUAUUGUCGGCCUAUCAUAAGCAGCCUUAAUUUGCAAUUUUAAGAGUCAUGACAAAUUGAAGAAAAGUUAACAGAUUAGUGUUUUCAAGUUCAAAUUGAAGAAACAUUUAAAUUUUGCCAACAACCCUACCUUUGUAGGAUUAUUUUGGUUUUCACGACUUUUCUUCUUCUUGCACGAAAGUGGGUUUGGACCCUGCAAAGUUCAUAGCAAUAUCAUCAAAAAGUGACGCAAUACAACUGUUACAACAACAACCAAAUAGUAUCCCACUAAGUAUGGUUGGCUACAUAGAUCAAAUUACACCAUAAUCAAUGCAAUAACUGUUCUGUUUUAUAGGGGAACUGUUGGAAACAAUAAAUUAAUAUGAAUCAUCCCAGCAUACAUGUGAACAUGUUUAUAUUUGUUAAGUUUCAAGGAAACAUCAUAGAACACAACUUAAAAUCAAAACAUAAUACAUCUGCAGAAAAAUCUACCUCUGGGACAUCAUGAUCAAUAAAUGUUCUUAAAACUAUUUGACCCAUCAAAUGUUUUCCAAAUGCAACAAAUUUUAUAGUUACCCUCCUAAUACCCAUUAACAUGACCAUAUUUUCAUUUUUACAAAAUUAUCGUAGGAUAACAUAGAGUAAAUGGAGGGAGAGAAAACCAUAGCUCUUUAUUUUACUAAACCGUUCAAGUUAUAGAAAAUUUUGAACACUCAAAGCCAAAAUCCAAAAUACACGGCCAUAUAACUAUAUUAUCAAAGUGCAUCAAGUGCUGCAGGUAAGAGAGGGGGAGAGAAAAAGAAAUUAAUUUGUGGCAAAAAUAUAUCAAGUCUGUAUGAACAAAUUAAUUUCUAAUUGGCUGCUACCAGCUUGUUUUAUCAACAAAAGAAUACUGUCAGUUAGUUAACAGUCACUUCCAUGUGGUAGUGUAAGCUGGAGUCUUUUAGUUCUGUCAGCAUUAUGUCCCUAAAAUAUUCAGUUACAUAGUUACUGUUAUAAUCAGCUAAGAUAUCACAGAAUAAUAGACCAUCUUUCUCAAGUUAUAUCAUUUCCUUUGGUUUCUAAAUUUCCUAUAUGUUUCUCUCAUUACCUCUAUCAGCUACAAACAAAAUGGUAAGCUAUAAGCCUAUCUAUGUUUAGACAUGUGAAAAUCAAUAACCAAUCAAGAAAAAAGACGCAGCACAAAAUUAAAAUAUAACCUUUGCUUUUCUUCUCUUGAAUUGAGGUUUAUCCCUGACGCCAUUCUGAUUCCUUGAAAUUAUGCUUCUUUUUAUUGCCUGUGCACUUGCAAUCGAAUCUCCUAAAUCAUUGUUUUCCACUAUUUCAGCAUUGGAAUUAUCAGCUUCACCAUCAGCCAGUUUCUUCAUAGCCCUAUCCUUAAAUAUCUGGUACUCUUUAUCGGUCAUAUGCAAUCGUCUUUCUUCAGAAGUUUUGACAUACUCCUUCUGAAAUGCAGAUGGAGAUUCGAGGAAAAGAGCAUUUCUGAGACCAAAUAUGAGGGGCACACCAGGUACCUGCAACAAGCGGAUAAAGACUAAACAUAUGUACAAUGGGACAAAUUUACACAAAGUCAACAUAUUUUAGACGUAAAUACGCAGAAGUUCAGUGGCACUGUGACACAGAACAUGCCAUUAAUGCAAAUAACAUUUUAUCAUGUUUACAAAGUGACAGCAACAUAUUGAAUUGGUACAAUCAACAUUACAAAAAAAAUAUUCCAACCUCUUCCAACUUCUUCCGUAGGUCAGUGUCCUGACUAGCAACAAAGAAGUGCUCGGAAUUAUUUUCUCCAACAACCUCCAUGAUGCAGGAAUCGGCCCUCACACAUUUAUCAUGCUCGCAUCUGCAAAUUGGAAUUUAGAUCAAAUUAUAAAACCAUCACCACAGCAAUACUUGUGCUCAAAUAUCUCAACCCAAAACAACAAUCCUUUCCAGUCUAGUGGACUAAUCAAAUAUUAGAUACUGAUUAUUAAGACUUAAAAAGUUAACAGCUUCGAUUCUUCACAUUAGGCAGCCUUUUAACAUGUCAUUUCAGUCGGCCAGAAAAGUGAUUCAGAGUAGGAAUGUCAAGGUCAGUUCUAUACAUAUUUGGGUCUAUAAAUAUCAAUUCUCAAUGCAAUUAUAUCAUUUAUAACAGAUCUCAAUGAGGGUAACAAAGUAAGUACACUAGUGAUUUGGGUGAUCCGCAAUAUUAGAUACUGAUGAUUAAUCAAUUGGGCGAGGAGCUAAAGGUGGCUUUCUUGCCAAAUAACAAUAUAAGGGGCAGAAAAAAAUUAGAAAGAACUUCAAAUAUGAGCAACAAGAGUAAAUGAAAACCUAAAGGAUUUAAAACGCUUAAAUUCUUCUGAAACUUCAAAGUUGUUUCUUCAUUGAGGCAAAAGGAGGUGUUGCUUUGUGUCUAACAAAAACUUAUUGGACUGAAUUAGACAGACCCACUUUCUUCAAAUUUGUGUUUUCUCAACCUAAUAUAGUGUUGAUAAUGGUGGAAUAUAGAAAAAGGGCAGAAAUUUAUCAUAUAAAGAUGCCAUUGCAGCCUACGGUGCAGCCAUGGCAGGAACCCCUUUACAAAUUGCCUAUGGGGAUUGUCAAAAACUCCGAUAUUGCCAGUGGCCACCAUUUAACAACACUAACCUAACCAAGCCUUCCAAAACUACAUCACCCAAACAUGCUGACCGAAUUAUUCGGAACCAGCCCAUUUGACCCCUCUCUUAAAUAAAAUUAGUAUAAUAAAUUUACAUUUAAAGGGUCUCAGCCUACUCAAUCCGGUAUCAUUCAUCAUGCACAUCUAUCUUAAUGACACAGGAAAAGUUUGUUAAACAACUAGGCUCUGUUUGGAUAACCAACUUAAUUUGCAGCUUAUAGCAUAAACACUUAUCAUGAUAAACGCUUAUGCAUAACCUAUUUCCAUAACAAAAGUAUAAAUAACGUUAAAUUGUUUUCGUAAAGUCUCCUAAACAGUCUCACCAGUGCCUAUAUCACUAGAUAAGCUCAAAUACACAAGUCAAUUCAAACAGCAGUAAGAAGUGUGUAUACCUUGCAAUUAUAAGAUCAUUCGCUGCAUCAAGAGCCUCUGAAUACGACUUCCCAAGCCGUUUCAAUUCAGCAACAACACAUCUACAUCACCACAAUCCAAAACUCAAAUCAACAACACGAAAAAAAAAAUCAAAACAAAAACAAAAGCACCCAAAACAAAACAAAACAAAAUAAAAACAAAAACCUUGUUGUGUAGAGCUUGACAGUGGCACUAAGAAUAUUGGCAAGAGCAGUAUCAGCAGGUGUUAUACGAUUGACAAUAAGGUGAUUAACAAAUGUUCCAUCACAUAGAACUUUGUAAGGUUUUCGAAAACCAAAACAUGCAGUGUAAAACGUUAAACUCUUCCUAUGUCUCUUUUGUUUCUUAACCUUCAUCUACAUAAAAAAAUCAAAAAAGGGUAUUCAAAUUAAACAACAAAGAAACUAAAUUUGAAGUUUGGUGUUCAGUGAUAAUAACAAGUUCUUUCAUAUACCUUAUACAAAAAAUCUCAGCUGCCGGCGACGAUCAACUCCGACGGCGGUUCCCGGCAAUGUUUUGUUUAUUGCGGCGGUUCGGUGACGACAGCGGCUGUGAGACUGAAAGGAGAAUACGGUGUAUGGAAAUUGUGAAGGUUAAUGGAUAAUGGAUAAUAACCGGUUAACUCAAUGGUAACCGACCCGUUUUAAGUUUUGUCAAAAUGGACUGGAUCAGUUAAAAUGAAAUUGCUAUGAAACAUUACCUCAUCGGCGGUUAACUGCCGUCGGUUAGGUUUUAACAGCAGUUAACUCUCUCCGUCAGUUGGCUUUCAACGGUAGUUAAAUACCGUUGCAACUUGCAAUCAAGCAUUCACACAACAUGUUCUGUUUUAAGAAUCAACCAAAAUUCAGUUUCUUUAUUACCUGUAAUUCAAAAAAACAACAAUCCAGAGGUAGUACAACCUUUAAACCAAUUAUAAUCACUCACAAGCAAGAACAAUACAUAAUUUUGUACAAUUGACCAAAAUUAAAUCAAUUCGACAUUUCGUUAAAAUUACACGAAUGUUCGAAAUUCAACAAAAGUGCAAUAGUAGGUGUAAAUAAUAACUUAUUUGAUGGAAGGGGAAAAUAGGUGAUGAUGGAACAGUAAGUAGGAGUAGGUUUUUGUAAUCAACAGUAUCCAUGCGCAAUGGCAGUUAAUUGUCGUUGAAAGCUAAUUGAUGGUGUGUUAACCGUUGUUGAAACUUAAUCGGAAGUAAUUAAUUGUUGAUGAGGUUAUAUUCGUCAUUUCAUGAUAUUUUAUAGCAAACUUUGAUGUGGGAGCGCAACAAUUUUCCAGUUUUUAUGCACACCCCUUAGAUACAAGGGUAAAGUGACACUGAAUGAUGGUGUUUCAUACAUGAUUAUGUGAUAUUUUCUAAUAGUAUAAAUUGUUUUACAUAAUACAUCUUUCGAUUUUAUAUGAGCAUAAAUAACUAUUUUCACACUUAUUAAGAAAAUUAAGUAUUCUCCUUUUCAGCUCUAAGUAAUAGUGUUAAGUAUGUGUUAAGUAAAGUAAGUUAAGUUUUGUUUAUAUUUGAGACCAUUAAAUGAGUUAUAUAUUUAUUUUUUUAUAUUUGAGAAAGGUGUUGAGUAGAAAUCCUUUUGGGGAUAGCUUGUAAAAUGACCAUCAAUAUUACUUGAAUUAAUAAAAAUUUCUCCUUCCCGAUUUUUUUUUAAAAAAGAGUGGUGUAUAAUAAUUAAACACUUGUUAUUAUAAGAAAAUAUAUAAUUGCAAAAAUUACACUUGUUUUAAAAGGGUUAAUUCAAAAUUUGACAGAAACGACAAACUUAUGCUCACAUCAAUAACAUAAGGGACCGGCAUAAAAAAAACAUGCAAUUAAACAAUAAUUUUAUUUCUAUCAUAACAAUUGUUGGCAAUAAAAGAAAUAAGAAUGAAGUCAAUGAAGGCUAACUCAACUGGUAAGUAGUUAACUUUUUUAACCUUGAGGUCUGUCCUAACUUGGUAAAUUAUUUGUUGGAAUCAUGAACCAUGGGGUGGAAGCAUGUUUAUGCACAUUUAGAAUGUACUCCUUCGUACUAAAAUAUAAGUAAAAUUUGAUCAACAAAAGUCAAUGUAUUUGAUUCAAAAUUUAUAUCAAAUACAUCAACAUAUGUUGACUCAUUUUUACUUAUAUUUUGAAAUGAAUGGAGUAUUAUGUUUCUGCCUAUGUAUCCAAGGAAGAACAACCUCAAAUUUUAGUAACCAUCCUUAAUCUCAACGAUAGUGCUUCCGAUGUAUAAAUGUAAACGAUUCAGUGAAUGCAUAGCUGGGUUCAAGGGAUUGUUCAAAGAUUUCAGGAGCUUUCUAGUUGCUCAUGAUAUGCUCUUGGGGGUUCUUAUAAUAUAAACCCAAUUUCCUGUUUUUCCUUUUCUUGUUUUACCUUUUUUAUCAUUUUUUUUUUCUUGAAUUUGAUUUAUAUCACCUCAGGUUUAUGUAUUUUAUUCUUUGGAUCUCGCUAACCAGUGCCCUUAGAGUAUUGGUUAAAGAAUCUACAAAUAGAAAUUUUGUCUUAAAAAUAUAAGAUGUUACUUUUGAUCAAGUAAUGAUUACAUAAUUUUUUCAUGAAAACUUGUUUGUUUUGAAUGGUUAACCAGUGCCCUCCUUUAGGGCACUGGUUACCAUUACGGAUAAAUUUUUCGCUUGAAAAAAAUAAAAAUAAAAUCAAUUUUUUCUCAUAAAUUAUCACCUUUAUCAUGUUUCAUAAUUCAUAGGCAUAUCCAAGCCUCAUCUUAUCUUUUGCACAUGAUAUGAUUCCCUCUUAUGAUUUGAUAUGUGACUAGGAAUAGGAUUAGGCAAAUGCUAUUAUAUAACUAUAAUAUAAUAUAUCUUUGUUUAAGGUUAUCCCUUUAUCAAUUAAUCACAAUCCUCCCAUGACAUUAUAAUUAAAAGACAUUGUUGUGUUAGUGGGUGAUAUUCUAUAAAUUAUUUCUUCCAUCAUGGGAAGGAUGAAGAAAGAUCCAUAAGCUUAUUCAUUUGCUUAAAAAAUUGAAUUCCACGAAAAAGAUCAAACAUAUAUUUUAUGACUAAAUUAUUACAUUGUUCAUUGUUUGCUUUGGCUAAGAUAUGGCACCCCCAAGCACAUCCUAACAACCACGUGUAUAGAUGCUGUAGGUGCGUUAUACAUUCAAGUUUGUCGUUUUUAUUUUGGAAACAUUUUUUUUAUGGAUAAUUACUUCAUUUAAGUUUUAUUUCUUGGAAGCUACAGAUGCAGCUUUUCAACCAUGAAUGAAUGCAUUCUUGUUGCAAAACUUCAACUGAAUGCUACAAUUUGUGAAGUAAAGUAGAUUUGUCAAUCAUAGAUCGACGGAGGGAAAAAGAUUUAUAUUUUGACAAAUGUUUCAUAUAAUAAAUUAAAGGUGGUGAAUGUUUCAUAAUAAAUUAAAGGUCGCUCUAACUUGUACUCGAUAAAGUUAAGGCAAUAGAGAGAAAGUAAAAACAUAAUAAUAAUAAUAUGAGAGAGAAAUUUGUCAAAAAAAAAUUGUCGAAAAAUAGUUGUACAAAUAUUAUUUCUCUUUUAAAAAUGUGCUAGCAAGGAGACCUUGUGUUUAAGGAGGGGCGGGAUAACAAUACCCCCAUCCCGUCUCGACAAGUAUAAGAAAAAAGUUGAAUCGAAACCCACAUUUAGUUAUAACGGAUUUCUCUGAAAAAAGUCUUCGGAUGUGUUAGGUCAUACAAGUUUUCAGAUGAGUACUUAGACUUUGAUAUGACUUUUUUUUAGGGAAGACUUUGAUGAUUGACCUCCUUAAAAAACCUAUUAAAUAAGAAUUUAAAUUAACCAACCUAUUUACUUCAAACACACCCUAAUAGGCAAUAAGUCAAGAAUCAAAAUUGUAGAAAAGGGAGAGGAAUUCAAGUUGCCAAAUUUUAAUUGAAAGCAUACGUGAUGCUAGAAGUAACAACAGCGAUAGCAAUUUGUUGUCAAGUAGAACAUGUCAAGAAUAAACGGAUAAAACUAUGAUUAUACUCUUUAUAUAAAUCGAUGAUGUAAUUCAAAAUCUUUUUUCUACAUAUAGAAACAUUCAAUCAAUUCAUAAUGUCUUUUUAUAAUUCUAUUUGAUACAUCAUCCAACACUAAAUGUGAAUGUAUCAUGAGAGUCUAACAUCUUAAGCUAAACGGUGUUUAUGACUUUAACUGAUGAUGUUAACUAAUGUCUUUGAAACAUUUAUUAACAAACUUCUUUUACACUUUUAAAAUAUCGACUACAUAUAUUUUAAAAUAUUUUUAUUAUAUUUGAUUCUUUAACAAGUUACACGAACAACUUCUUAACAUUUUUUUCUUUAAAAAAAAAUUUCACAUUUCUCAUUUUAUCAUAUUCAUUUUCCACAAUGGAUGACAUCAAAUGUGGGGGACAUGAAAACGUUGUAGGUAUAGACAACAACAAAAACAAUUAACAACAAUACAUUUUAAAAAUCAACAAUAAAACAAAACCUUCUUUUCCCCCACUUUAUCUUUGUAUAUGAUUUUUCUUUGAGAAUAUCGUCACAACCAUAAUUAGAUACAUAAAUAUAAUAACUAAAAAAAAUAUCACAGCUAACAUGGGGUGACUAAGAUCCAAAAUGAAUCAUGCUGGCUUUGAAAAUGAAAGCACAAAAGAGUGACAUCAAUCGAAUAAUUUAGUGUGCGGCGACACGAAGUUGCGUAUGUAAUUAUAACAAGAUAGGUUAGUGAGAGUGACAUGUAUUUUGAAGGAUUGAAUAUGGUUUGGUUUUUGGUUCAUGUUCAACUUACUUGUCUAAAAAGUUAAACUUAAUUUUUGCAUUUUAGGGGUUUAAAAGUAGAUAAUGGACCACCUUAUCUAUGCUUCAAUUGAAGAAAUGGUGAUAUUAUUGAAUCAAUAGGAAGGGACAAUUUAAAGAGAUGGAUGAUAAUGUGGCAAGAGAGUUUUAGCCAAAAAAAAAAAACGUGGCAAGAGAAUUGUUAGUUAUAGCACUCUUAUUUAUUUAUUGGGUCACACCAUUUUCCUUAAUUUUUUUUAUUGAGAAUAUGUUGAUUGGGUUUCAUAUACUAACCAUGAUCAGGAAUUUUUUUAGAAGUUUUAAUGUUGUGAAUUCAGAUCAAAAUUCACAUUAAUAUUUGCUCAUUUGGUUAAGUUUAAAUUUGACAUACAUUUAAUUCUUUAAAAAGAGAAACAAAAAAAAUUACAAGAAAUUAACAUCAACAAUGACGGUCAUAAUUUUUAUCCUUUGUCUGAAUCUCUUGAUGUGGUCAAAAGACUCAAUGAUUUAUUCUCUAGGUGUACACAAGUAUUUUCCAACCCUAAAAUCUAUUCCAAAAGAAACAAUAUUUAUGUAUCUUAAUUUGCUUGAUAAGGCCUACUUUGCCUCACUCCCACCUCAUUGUUAGAACUAAAAACUGGAGCCUUUUAUAUAUGGGUAUCACUCUGCUUGUCUAACACUUCAAGAAACAACUUUGCGGACAAUUGCCAAAAAAAUAAGCAAACAAAGUGAAACAAUCACUUUGUUUGUCUUCCACAUCAUGAAAUGGCCUUAUGAAAUAUGUAUUGUCAAGCAAGAAAACCGCAUUGUUUUUCUACUCUUUUGAGAAACAAGUGGCAUCAUCAACUUUCUUGAGAAGCAAAAAAAAAAAAAACUCAAAAUGCUAACAAAUGUACUUACAUUUAUCCAACAAUGAAAUUAUCACAUCAACAGAGAGAUUCAAAUUCAAGUCCUUGUAAAAUUCGGUUUGAAUUCAAUUAUCAAUUAUUCCAAACUAAAUUGACACUCUAUUUUAUCUACACACCUAUAUUAUUAUUAUUUUUAGGGUUAAUUAUUGAAAUUGACAUGUAAUAUAAACGAAGUCUCAAAAUGACGUUGUUAAAUAAAAAUCACAUAUUCUAACCCUGUAAUUCGAGAUUCUUAUUAUUUAUGAUCAUGUGAUAUACGUAAAGUCCAAAAAAGCAACCUAAAGAUUUAAUUUUUUCAUGAUUUUUUAGAGGCAUGUUAAGAAAGUUAAAAUAUGAACUGACAGAAAAAAUUAGAAAUUUUCGAUAAGCAACAACUUAAUUAUGAAUUUUUAAAGCGUCAAAAGCUCAAAAAACAAGAAUGAAAAUCUCAACCUAUAAAUCAAAUUGUGAGCUCACUAUUUGUAGAGGCAUCUAUAAAAAUACACAAAAAGGAUCUACAAAGUUUCAUAGCGUUUAGAAGAAGUUUCAAUUUAUUUUUGUUUUCCAACUAAAACGUGCAAAAUUGAAAUUUUGUUUCUAUUAAGCGACUCACAUGUCAAAUUUUAUUCCCUAAUUUUGUAGGCAUGGUCAGAACAUAAUGAAUUUUUUCAGUUUUUAAACGAGAGACAAAUUAAUUAUAAAUUGUUUAAGAAAUUCAUAAUUAUGGGGAAUAAAAUUCAUAAUUAAAGACAAAGUGGUCCUUUUAAGUUUCAAAAGUCUCAAACAAGUCCUUUUAGUUUUUGAAUCGUUUCAAACAAGUCCUAUUGUAGAUAGCAUAGUUGGUAAUUGCUUCCUUCAACUCAUCUUUGGUACCAAAUCUGGCUCCUAGCACCCACUUAAAAUUAGUCAUCUUUUUAGGCAUGACAAAUGGUGGAUAAUGCUCUUUGUUGCUAUCAUCUGAAUCAUCACCAUCAUCCUUUAAAAGGACUUGUUUGAAACGAUUCAAAAACUAAAAGGACUUGUUUGGGACUUUUGAAACUUAAAGGACUUGUUUGGAACUUUUGAAACUUAAAGGACCACUUUGGAAAAAACGAAAAACUUAAAUGACUUUUAGAUGCAUUUGACCUAAAUUGUCAUUCCUAGAAACGGAAAAUAACUUUUGUUCCUGAAACAGUAAUUAACGUUUUCUCUAUAUUUCAAUCUAAAUAAGUGAUUUUCACAUAGAUCUAGGUUUUUUCUUUAUGAUUUCAUCAUCUAAGUGUGGUGGUUUGUUGUUCGUCGUCUUGUGCGGCGCUGUUUGAUUUUCCGUCUUCUUGCGGUGUUUAUUUGAUUCAUAUUGAAGAUUGAUUAUUCAAUCAAAGAUUUGGGCGUCAACGUUGCAGAUCUGGAGGCCAUGGAUAUUCCGGCCACUUUAAUUUUAUCAUAUAUUUUUGUAGGCAUUAUGCUGUUAUAUAUGCUAUUAACUUGGAUGUUGUGAGUAUGUUCGCAGAUUCAUUCUUUACGUUUUUAGCGGUGUUGAAUGAUAUAGUCUCUCGAUUUAAAUAAAUGAAUAUCAUUUUGUUUUUGUCAAACAAUAAAAAAAACUAUCAUUAAUCAACCAAACAAUAAUUAAUUACUGCUAGAGCUAUUUUCGAACGUUCAAGGUGCAUAUGAACAAUUCAUAGGUGCUAAAGAGCAAUUUUCGGAAAACAAAGUGUAUUCAACGGACAAUGAACAAGUGGGUCUUAAUACAACCAUGUGAAGAAUUUAUUCCACACCCCUAUAUUUUGCUUGGAAAAAAAUAACUUUGUUGAAUAUAAAUGAUAUAAAAAAUUCCUGAUAAAUAUGAGAUUAUACAGUUUUACUGGUAAAUAUGAGUUAUUAUAUACACCUCUUAUAAAUAAAGGGAUACUCCCUCCAUCCCCAAUUAUUGGAAGAAAAAAAAAACUCUUUGUUUGUCUCAAAAUAUAAGCAAAACAACAAGUGUGACAAAUUAAAAGUAUGGUGCACAAAUUAAAAGUAUGGGCGUCAACAUUGCAGAUCUGGAUGCCAUGGAUAUUCUGGUCACUUUAAUUUUAUCAUAUAUUUUUGUAGGCAUUAUGCCGUUAUAUGCUAUUAACUUGGAUGUUCUGAGUAUGUUCGCAGAUUCAUCCUUUACGUUUUUAGCGGUGUUGAAUGAUUUAAUAUCUCGAUUUAAAUGAAUGAAUAUCAUUUUAUUUUUGUCAAAAAAAACUAUCAUUAAUCAACCAAACGAUAAUUAAUUACUGCUAGAGGUAUUUUCGGAAGUUCAAGGUGCAUAUGAACAAUUCAUAGGUGCCUAAAGAAUUUAUUCCACACCCCUAUAUUUAGCCUUCUACUCCUACUAGUUUGAGACAGGGCAUAUUUUGCUUGGAAAAAAAUAACUUUGUUGAAUCUAAAUGAUAUAAAAAAUUCCUGAUAAAUAUGAGAUUAUACAAUUUUACUGGUAAAUAUGAGUUAUUAUAUACACCUCUUAUAAAUAAAGGGCUACUCCCUCCAUCCCAAAUUAUUGGAAAAAAAAGCUUUUUAUUUGUCUCAAAAUAUAAGCAAAACAACAGGUGUGACAAAUUAAAAAUAUGGUGCACAAAUGAUUUUAGUCUUUAGAUUUAUUUUUCUUCACAAUAAUACCAUGUACCCAUCACACCCCUACUAAAUUCUAAUGCUUCACCCCAACUCUCGCAUACUUUUCACUAUUAGACCCUUAAAUUCAAAGUUAGUACCGGUCUGUUUAGUUAACCCAAAAAAAGAGUUUUUAGCUUUUAGCUUAUAGCUUAUAAGCUCGUUUGACAAAAAAAGCUCUGUUUGGUAACACUUUUUCACCAUGAGCUUAUAGCUUAUUUCACGAGCUUAUAAGCUAUUUUUCAGAAGCUAUUCCAAGUAGCGUUUGAGCUUAUAGCUUAUAGCUUCUCACUUUUUCUUCCAAUUUUACCCUUAUUAUUUCAUUUAAAUUGUAUUUUUAUCCAUUAUAAUUUUUAUAAUAAACUACGUAAUAAAGACUACUAUCCCGUUAUUCCAAUUUUUGUAUAUAUAUCAGCUGACCUUUUUUUUUUUUUUUUGAAAAAAUAUAUACCUUUGUUUUUUUUUUACGAAACAAAAUACUAUUAUUCUAUUAGUGUUACUUUUUUUUUUUUUGAGGUAAGUGUUAUUUUCUUUAUUCUCUGUUAUUAGUAUUACUCUAUUAGUGCUACCUUUUUUUUUUUGUUUUUGAGGUAAAUGUUAUUUUUUUUAUAAAGUGGAAACACUUAAAUGAUAAUAAAUAUAAAAUAAAAUUUUAGUGAAUAAAAUUUAAUUUAAUUUAUAAUACAUAGGAUAUAUUAAAUUAAUAAAUUUAAAGUAUUUUUUUAAAGAAAAAUUAGUUUACAAAAUUACAAAUACUUAAAUUAAUGAUAUAAUUUUUAUUAUGAAUUAAGAAUACCCUUUAUGUCAUUUUACAUUUAUCAGCUAGUUGAACCGCUAUUUUUACCAAACAGAGCCUACAUACACAACACCUAACAUGUUUCUCAUCUCCUUAAAUUCUUCAACCUUAAGUGGUUUUGUUAAUAUAUAAGCUUGUUUGAGUUUUGUUAAUAUAUAAUACUUAGUUUCAUUGUGUUUCUUGGACCACACGCAACUGGAUUUUUGGCUAAGAAAAUUGCAUUAGUUGUUUAUCACCGCCAAAAAAUUGCGUGUUUUGAGAAAUUUGAGGACACAAAUAUGAGUUUGAGAACCCUAUCACUUAACUUUCACACUGCUUCUUAUCAUCAUGAAUUAACAAACCAAAAUAUGAAGUACCUUUUAGAUAUUUCAAAAUUCUUUAUGCAUCAAUCGUAUGUGAUUGAUUUGGAUUCAAACUCUAAUUCAUUAUCUCCUUAAUUAAGUAUCACAUUCAUCAAGAAUUAACGUGAGCUUUCUUAACAAAAUUCAUUUUAACACUCUCACUUUUAUUCGAUAAACAACAAGGUCAUAUUACUUUGGAGACGAAUCCUUUAUAAAGUGGUAGGAUCCAUACGUAUUUUGUUUUAAUAAGAGAGUGAAUGUUAAAAGGUACGUUAAAAUGAGUGUUGUUAGCGUAUUUUACGAAGUAAUGUUUUGUUAAAUAUAAAAGAUGAAAAUAACAAGUGGAGUCAGAUAAUUUAGUUUUCUCUUAAAUCAAGACCACAUAAAUUGCCCUUCUCAAAUAAAGAGUAAAUUAUUUUUUGUUGUUGUUGUUGUUGAUAUAGAGAGUGAACCUCUUUCAAUAAUGGAAAUUUCUCUUUAGAUAAUUGUUCUAAGACACUUUGAUCAAACAAAAAAUGAUAUUUGUACAACUACUUUAUUAUAAUUUUUUAACAAUUUAUUAUCUCGGACUUAUAUUAUAUUAUUAUUCUCUCUCUUUAUUUUUUUCUCUCUAUUGUUUUGGACAAAUGAGAAGAGAGGAAAUGAAAGUUGUCAUCAAAGUUGUUACAUAUGGUUGUACAUAUAUCACUACUCUUAAUCAAAAUAUUUCCAAUGAUAUUAAAUUUUUGUAUAUAUUUUUUUCUUUGUUUUUGUAUUGGUAACUUAUAUGUGAUAAUAAUUCUCUUGUAGCAGAAAACAGAAAAAGAGACAAAAAAUAAAAAGCAGAAGCUUGCUACAAAACAACUCCCAAACACAUAAGGGAAUUAAACCACCACUUAUGUUAGUUUAAAGAAAAGUUAAUGUGAUUCGUUUUCAACCACAAAAAAGAUUAAAGUUUAUUUUUUUUUUAGAAGAUGUUGAACCGCAUUCCCCUUUUGUUGGCGAAUCUGAACAUUUCUUUCCCGCCAAAUGACCCAGACAUAUGAAAAUCAAAUUAGAUGAAGAACUAAACAGAUUCUUUUAAAGACCGCCUAGUAAUCCAAAUUGAAGAAGAUGACUUUAACAUGUUCCAGAUAUUUCUAACAACAUAAAAAUUGAAAAUCUAUUUUCUUCAAACAUAAGGAGGUAAGAUAUAAACUAGUUAAAAAUCUUUUUUUUAGAUAAUAAAUAAACACAAAUAGCUUCAGAUUUUUUUUCUUUCAAAAUCUCUAAAAAUAAUCUCCAGAUUUCUAACACAAAAUCUAUUUUUUUUCUUAAAGUAAAACAAACAUACCCUAAAUUUUUUCAUGCUUCAGCCACGUCAAGAAAGAGGUAAACCGCAUUAAUUUUUUGGAUAAUGAUGAAGGGGUACGAAUUGCUGAUGAACAAGGCAUGAGUCAGGUUGCAAAAGAAUAUUUUGAGACUUUAUUUUUAGAGAGCAAUAGUACUCGUGCACCGGUUGGUAAUAUAAUAGAAAAAGUUGUGUCUGAUGAUGAUAAUAUUAUGCUAACCGCUCCCUUUCAGGCUGAAGAAUUUAAGGACGCUAUGUUUUCUAUGCAUCCAGAUAAGUGUCCUGGUCCGGAUGGUUUUAAUCCGGGAUUUUUUCAACAAUUUUGGUCUGUCUGUAAUUCUGACAUUUUUCAGGAAUGUUGUGCGUGGCUCAAACAUUGCAUUAAUCCCUAAAGGUAAUGAGCAAAGAACCAUGAAGGAUUGGAGGCCGAUUGCUUUAUGUAAUGUGUUGUACAAAUUAGUGGCAAAAGUACUUGCUAACCGACUCAAAAAAAUCUUACACGAAUGUAUCUCUGAGAGUCAGUCAGCUUUUGUACCAGAGCGCUCUAUUCUUGAUAACGUCGUGAUUGCUAUUGAGGUGGUCCAUCAUAUGAAAGUUGGUAAGAGAGUUUGAGAUAAAAAUGUUGCACUUAAAUUAGAUAUUAGUAAGGUGUAUGAUAGAAUUGAUUGGCUUUAUCUCAAGGAAGUGAUGCUUAAAAUGGGUUUUGACAGUAAAUGGGUACAAUGGAUUAUGAUGUGUGUUGAAACUGUUGAUUACUCUGUCAUCGUUAACAAUGAGUUGGUAGGUCCGAUUAUACCGGGUAGAGGUUUGAGACAGGGUGACCCGUUGUCGCCUUAUUUAUUUAUUUUGUGUGCUGAAGGCUUAUCCCCUCUUAUUCGGAAAGCAGAACGAACUGGAGACCUCCAUGGCGUGUCUAUAUGUACUAAUGCACCUACCAUUUCUCACCUAUUGUUUGCAGAUGAUUGCUUUUUGUUUUUCAGGGGUGAUGAUAAUGAGGCACAAGUGAUGAAGAAUAUUCUCCAUACUUAUGAACUUGCUUCGGGGCAGGCCAUUAGUCUUCCAAAGUCUGAGGUUUUCUUCAGUACUGUUAUUCCAUUGCCUUUGAAGGAAACUAUUACUAAUAUAUUAGGUGUCCGAGCGGUGAUGGGCACGGAAAAAUAUCUUGGCCUUCCGUCUAUGGUGGGCAGAAGUAAAGAGGCGACUUUUGGUUUUAUCAAGGACCGUAUUUGGCACAAAAUUAACAGUUGGAGUAGUAAGUGUUUGUCCAAAGCUGGUCGAGAGGUAAUGAUCAAAUCGGUACUACAAUCAAUCCCAUCUUAUAUUAUGAGCAUUUUUUUACUUCCAAAUAAGCUUGUUGAUGCAAUAGAAAAAUUGAUUAAUGCUUUCUGGUGGGGCCAUGGCGGUAAUAUGCGUCGUGGAUUACAUUGGAUGUCCUGGGAAAGAUUGUCUGUUCAUAAAUUUUUUGGAGGCAUGAGCUUUAAGGAUUUGACCUCUUUUAAUGUGGCUAUGUUAGGGAAACAGGGAUGGAGGUUCCAAACAGAGUCUAGCAGUCUUGUUUGUCGAUUAUUUAAGGCUAGAUACUUUCCUAAUUCUGAUUUUAUUGGGUCCAAAAUUGGGCAUAACCCAAGCUAUGUUUGGCGAAGCAUUUUUAGUGCAAAAAUUGUGGUGAAACAGGGUGCACGAUUGCGGAUCGGUUCAGGGGUCAACAUACCUUUCUUGGGAGCCCUUUGGCUCAAUGAUGGUUUGUCUUUAUCCACAACUAAUCCUAUUUUUGAGCCUUUGAUGCAGGUGAAAUUAUGUGACUUUAUCGAGCAAGAUGUUAAAAUGUGGAAGGCGCCUCUUAUUCACAGUUUGUUUGAUGCGCAAACUGCGGAGCUCAUUCUCAAUACACCAUUGCAGCCACUUGUAUUGGAGGACAAAAUGAUUUGGAAAUGGGAGAAGAGUGGUACGUAUUCUGUCAAGAGUGCUUAUAGAAUUUGUGUUACUGAAAUUGCAGACAAUUCGCAUAUGCAUGUCAAUGGCCGGUGGAACCUUACUUGGAAACUAAAAGUGCCUCCUAAAAUCAAAAUUUUUCUUUGGCGUGUGUGUCGUGGUUGUUUUCCAACACGUGCUCGCUUAAAUAGUAGAGGAGUCUCUUGCCCACUUGAUUGUGUUCAUUGUAAUCAUAAUUAUGAAGAUAAUAUUCAUAUCCUUAUUGAGUGUCCUAAAGUUGUUCAAGUUUGGCGGAAUGCGAAUUUAUGGGACACAAUUGGCAGGGUGAUCCAUCAAGACUAUAAUAUUAGUGCUCUCAUUUUCACCCUUUUACAAAAUCUAUCUUCAGGGAAAUGUGAGCUGAUGACAACAAUUAUAUGGAGCCUUUGGAAAUGUAGAAACAUGAAGCUUUGGCAGCAACAACUUGAGACAGAUUCGCAGGUGCUUCAACGUGCAAUUCAUGUACUUGACGAAUGGCAAACAACCCAAAGAAUUAGAUCAAGCAGCAGUAACCAAACCAUAACUCCACAGGUUCGGUCUUUGAGACAAGAGGAUGCAUCCUUUUCUACUUCUCUUAACAGGGUUGGGUUGGGCAUGUGUCUUAGGGAUGAUGAUGGCGCUUUUGUACUUGCAAGAACAGAAUGGUUUGCCCCUAUUUGUGAUAUAGAUGUGGGGGAAGCUGUUGGACUACACACGGCUUUGGAUUGGCUCUCUAAUCAAAAAUUUGAUAAUGUAGAUUUUGUGCUGGAUUGUAAAAAGGUUGUUGAUUGUGUCAAUUCUAGUCUAGAAGAUAGUAGCGAGUUUGGAUGUAUUAUCACUGCUUGUAAACAGCUGCUAGUUGAUAGUUUUCAGAACUCUCAUGUUGAGUUCAGCCGGAGGCAAGCAAAUAGGGUAGCUCACGAGUUAGCUCAGGCAGCCCUAUCUAAUCCUAGCCCCCAUGUGAUUGAUGAUAUACCUACAUGUAUUUGGCAUAUUUUAUCUAAUGAAGUGCAAUGAUUUCCUUUCCUAAAAAAAAAAUGAAGAAUGGAGGGAGUAGUUUUGUCAUUGAAUAAUUAUGUGAACAAGACUCACGCAUUAGCCAAAAUAAUAUAUUAGAUGAGAACAAUUUUUUUGCACAUGAGAUAAUAAUAGUUUGGCUGUGUGAGAAAGAAAGAAAUACCGAGAGAAUAUAUAAAUGUUUAAGAAAUAAAAUAGGUUUUUUAUAAAAAAAAAAAGAAAUAAAAUAGGUUUGAUGUAUCGAUUGGUAUCCUAGAAGUAGAGGAAAGAUGAAGAAAGAAUUAAGAAGUGUCGAUAGUUUUUUAAAAUAUGAUAAUGCCCCUAAAUUAAAAAAGUUCUUCUACUUAAGCUAAUUUAAACUUUUUUUAAUUUAAUUAAUUAACCUUUCUUUUUUACAAUAAUUAAGUACUCCAUAAUUUCAGUGAUUACAUUAAUAUAACUAUUUAUUGAUUCAAAGUAUGUCAAAUAAUUCUAUAGAUUUUGGUUUGUUUAGUGUGAGAUACGAUUGACUUAAUUUCAAAGCACUCCAAUUUAUAGAAUUAUUGAGAAAUGUAAGUACUCUCAACUGUGCAUAAAUUAAUCAUCGGAUUAUUUAUUUUUCCUUCAAAAAUUCUCAAUUAACAAAAUUACUAUCAAUUUUUAUUGCAGCAUACAUAUACUUUAAAUGAAGAAAAAACAAUGUAAUAGUUGAAACUCAUGAAACCAAAAACAAUGUAAUAAUGAAAACUCUUGAAACCAAAAUUGUGAAAGUAUCUUUUUCAUAUUUGAAUUCACUGCAAAUUACGUGCAAGGCUAGCAGGUAUAAGAAAAGCAAACAAAUUCGUGCAAAUUGUGAAAUUACAGACCCAAAAGUGUUAUAAUUUUUUUUUGGUUGGUGAAAGAAAGAUAAAAAGUGCAAGUGGUAUAAUUCUUAAAUCAACUUAGUUAACUUAGUCAAUUCAUUAACACAAAAAGAAAAAUUAGUCCACUAUUUAAUUGUGAGAUUAUUAACAAUUGAGAAAAUAAAUUGAGAGGACUAAUUCAUGCCCGUCCAUUCAACGAAUAAAUUUUAAUCACUUACAUCAAUUUUUUAAUUGUGAGAUUAUUAAUCACUAUUGAAUGAAAAUACUCAUUCUAAAAUAAAUAUAAACAAAAGUGGUAGUUGUUUUUUGAAAAGUGGUAGUUGUUACCAUUCUCACUAUUUUAAUCACAUACAUCAAUUUUUUAAUUACCUUUUAUUUAUAUUGCAUUCCAAAGGGAGUAGGUAAGAUCAAUUAUUAAUAUGAAAAUUGAGAAUAAAUAAAUUUAAUGGUAAAAUUGAUAACAAUUGAAAGACCUUAGAGAAAAUAAAUUUAGAGGAUAAUUAUCAUCGAUUCAUUGUUUAAAAAAUAGUCUCGCAUUCAGUAAAAUGGUAUCAAAAGGAAAGUAAAUUAUGGACGUGGUUAUUUGUCAAUAUCAAGAAAAGAUGAAUGGAACCCACUUAUUGUAACUCUCUGCCUGCCUCUGGUACUCAUUUCAGUCUCAAUUAUUAGUAAUUUUCAUUUUUUAAAUUCAUUGUAUAAAUAAUAUAUGUGACCAUAAUAUAGAUCAUAUAUAUCAUUUAUUCAAUAUACUUAAAAAAAUGAAAAAUUGUCUGCUUGUCACAUUAACCAAAGUUUUACUAAUUUCUUAGAUCUAUGAAUAAGUUCUACAUUACUCUUUAUCAUCACUCACUUUGUUCCUCUCAAUCACCAUCCAAGACAAUAGUUUGUCUCAGUCAUGAAUUCUCAAAGAAAUGUUAGAUUGAUUACAUUAUCAAAAUAAAAGUGAGAAGUAGUACUAGCAAAUACAGAUGUGUAAACAAUAAGUCUCAAUAUAUUUUUCUUGCAAAUUAUUUUGUUUCCUUGGGCCCUUAUUAGGGUUUUGACCUAGCCACACAAAACCCAUCAAUCUCUCAUACAAUAAAUCUAAACCCUCCAAUCACUCAUCUACUAGCCGUCCGAUCAACCAUCUUUCAUUAUAUAACCAACCAUACAACUAUCUCAUUCACCAUCCGCCGUUACCAUCCACUUCUAUUCCUCUUGGCCCCUUUUCUAAAAUUAGGGUUUCUCAAUUAUUAGGGUUUUUCAAUUUUCUUAAUUUUUUUGUUCAAUUUUUGAAUUAGGCUUCACUAUCUGGUCGAUGUGGAUCAAUUCAAUUCCCAUUCAGACUCGUUCCCUUGAAGCAAUAUUAAUAUGUGUUGUUCCUUCAUUUCACUUCCAAAACCCCCUUUUUUGGUUUUGGGAGCAUGAAAGAACAACUAAAUUUUAAAAAAAAUCGUAUUUUUAUCAAUGGGUUUUCGUUUUUGAUUAAUUUGAGCAAAUGGGUUUUGCUAGUUAACUGUGAUGAGUCUUUAACAGACCUGUAAUGAAUUGCGGGUAUGAUCGCAUUUUUAUUGAACAUCUAAGGGACUGAGUUAACUAGUUAAUCUCCCAUUUUCUUAUUAAUUUUUGUUUUUAUUUUUUGUUAUAAUCCAUUUAGUGGCUUCAGAUUUUGAUUUUAAUUAUGCUUGCACCUAAUUUAUUGUGUUUGCAAUGUUCUAUGAAGCCUAUAAUUGUGUUCCCCUCGCUAUCCACUACUGCAAAUCUAAUGCUGUAUAUGGACGUCGGGGAACAAAAUUUCAAUUUUUUUUUACCAUGUGAUUAAAUGGUUUAAGCCGUUUUGAAUUAUUGCUUCUAGAUCUAUGUUUGUUUGUUAAUUUGAUUUGAAUUGUAGAUAAGGAUGAAGCAAUAUAUAUAAUCCAACACUUGAUCUGAUUUUGUGAUGCCAAAUAUAUUUAUUAUGUUUCUGAAUCUACAUUUUGGGCUAUAAUCGUAAUGUUUUGCUUGUAGGUUAAUUUAAUUUAUAUUUUGUAAAUAUUUGAGGAGUCUUAAUUUGCACUAUCAUGUGAUGAGUUUGGAAUAAAUCUUAGGACACCUUCCUACACAACAUAUGUUGUGGAUGAGAUGAAUUAUCCUUUCUGAUGAUGUUUACAAAUUUCUCAUUACUCUGUCACUAAGUUAUUUUCUAGCUACAUUUUAAUUUUUUAUGUGUUUGGCCUUCAUAAUCCCAGUUAAGAUUGAAUUUUUUUCAAGUGAUUACACUGAUUCAUGGAAGGCCAACAAUAAGUGUUGGAAGUUUCGCUGAUAAAUGCCUUUAAUUGAUUUUACAUCAGGGUGUUUACUAGUAACUUUACCGCACACUCAUUUCUAACUUUACCGCACACUCAUUUGGAAUAAAUCUUAGAUCAAAUACCCAGUUAGUAUUAGUGUGACUUAAUAUACGAUUGUUUUAUGGGUUUAUGAUGCAACUGGAAUUAGUCGGAAUUGUGACUGGAAUGAAAAGGUUAAUGUUAACAAAUAUGCGGCUGAUCUUGACCACUGUAUCUGGAUUCACUCUUUAAUUUCCUAGUACGGAGCAUUGGUUAAUUAAACAGUCUCAAGUUCAAGUACAUUUCAGUAUGGUUUCAAUGACGAAAAACUAGCAUGAUAUAAAAACCCUAAAACAAAUUCAAGUUAACCAACAAAUGCAAGACAAUACUAGAAAGAAGAAACUAGCAUUGCGAAAAACUUAGUGUGAAACAAGCUUAAGGCAGUAGAUGGUACUAGUUUAAAUUCAAGCAACAAUUACUAUCAUCUUACAAUACUAGAAACUGGCAUUGCUAGUUAUCAAGAGACAAGAGCAUCCACAAUGGGGCAUAUUUUUUGGUAUGGUGCACAAAUAGCAAAAUCACCAUUGAUUUAAUAUUUAAAAAUUCAACGGUCAGGAUUGCACACCUGGUAAUUGACUAGCAGGUAUUUCGUAAUAGUAUUCGAAAUUGCAGAAAUAUCCUAUGAAUUUAUGUAAUUAAAAUUAUAAAUUGUAGAAAUAAACCUUGAAAUUAAUGUAAUUAAAUUUGUAAUUUGAAAUUAAUAUAAUUAAUUAUUUCUGUUAAUAAAAAAAAAUUAUAUUUUUAAAUAAUCAAAGAAAAGUAUUUUAUAUUAGGCCUUUUUUUUUUCCCUUGUUAAAAAAAAUAUAUAAUUGUUGUUUUAUAAACAGAAUAAUGAAUAAUUUAUGGAUUUUUUUUUUAAAGACGAAGUCAUUAUUUAUUUAUUCCCCUUAAUUAUUCAUCUCUUCAAACAAAUAUUUGAGUUUUAAUAAGGUUUUAAUAAGCGAUGAACGAUGAAGAUGGUGACCGAUGAAAUGUGCGGUGAAUGCAGGUGUGCCAUCAUCGGCGUUUUGAGAUGGACGAUGACGAAGAUUAGGUUAUUUGAGUGGGUAUUCCGAACCGUUUUGAGGGCAAUAAGAUUGGGCUUUUUAGGUGGACCGGGCAAAAAUUAAUGGGUGACGGCCCAAAUAGAAGGUUCUGUUAAGGGUUGUUUUGAAUCUUAGCAUUGGUCGACGGCUGUGAAGAAAUUUGUAGGUUUGAAUUUUGAAAAUCUCUUCAUCGGCAGUGUCUUGUUGUAGCAGGUAACUUCAAUGUUUGAGUUAUAUUAUAAUCAUGUUAUUUACUAGAUGUUGUUGUUACUGCAGCGAUAUAAUUGAUCCGGAGUUGGAAGAAUUGAUGCCCAAUUUUGACUCACCUGCGGACGAAAAUCCAAGUGAAGAAGAAGUUGAUGGCCCAGUAUUUGCACAAUUACAAAAUUUUCAAAACGGUGAUCAUAUUUGGAUGUUGUUGGGAGUUUUUCUGGAUGGUUUUAAUUUUAUUUUUGCUGGAUUAUUUGCAUAUGGGCGCCUCUAUGGUUGGAAAGUAGUCAUUGUAUUUGUUUUGUAUGUGUAGGAUAAUUGAAAGUUGGAAUUGUUGUUGAUGAAAUGGACAAGAAUAUGAAUAUGAAGUUGUUGAUAAAGGAUAUUGGUUAGAGAAAUACGUUUCAAGUGGAUGGGUUGAGUUUGUUAGGGCAAAAGAACUCAAACAUGGAGAUUCGUUGAUCUUCAACAUUGAUAAUCUUCGACAACAAAUUAUUUGUAAAAGUCAUUAGGUGUGAUAGUUAGGUUGUACAAAUUAUUAUUAUGUUGCCAAUUUGGUUUGAUAUGCGAACACCAGUUUGAUUGCAACUAAACCGAUAACUACAUUGUACCCAGUUUAAAAACCUUAAAAAGCCACCAAUUAAUUGUUAAAGUCGCGACCACCGUAGUGGUGAAGUCAAGGGUACCACCGUAGUGGUGAAGUCGUGGUGAAGUCAAGGCUGGAAUAUAUCCAAACCGAAAAUAAGUUUCAACAUCCAAAAACAUAAUAAGGGCAUUAGAUGAUUACAUUUCAUAAAACAUAAUAACUAAUAUUUGGCUUCUUACUCCUUCAUCAUGCUCUUACUGGUGACGGAUAUGUCGAACAUACAUUUUUUUAGGCGGGUCCUCCAGUUGGAAUAACAAUUUGUCAUUCACCUUUAAACCACGGUCAACAACAAAUUGAAACCAUCCACCACCUAAACUCUUCUCAUGGUUCUUUCUUGGGGCUGUCCUAACCCAACAUUGAUAGGUCUUGCGUGUUUCCACAUCCUCCAUCGGCAUUCUCAAAUAUCUUUUUUUCAACACCUUUCUUGAUACUGAAUUUGGAAAAUGCUACAUGUACGAAGGAAACAAAAAAUUAACUUAUAUCAUCAUAGGGUUCAACUACCGAUGGUAGACAACAACAAAAAAAGAUACUUAGGUAUUUGUUUGUUUCACAUUAUUCAUGAAAUGAGUAAACCAUAAACCAUGAUUGGUAAAACAAAUGAAGAUAGAGAAAUAACAUAUAAUUGGAAAAAUAUUAUGAAGUUGACAUACCAGCACUUGAAGCUUUUUAAUGGAAGCCAAUGCUUUUGUGACAGUCUUCUCAAAGUGAUAGAAAUUAAGGUUUUCAGGUUCUUCUUCCUCAUGUUCUGCCUCCUCUUCCUCUUCAGUUUCGUCUUCCUCUACAGUUUCAUCUUCGUCUUCGUCUUCCUCUUCCUCCAUUUCGUUGUCAGAUACAAUCUGAAUUGGCUCCUCUUUAACACGUGUCGGGAAUACAUUUGGAACUAGGAUGUUUCCUAGUGGAGUCAAUCUAAAGAAGUUCUUUGCACCGUCAUAGUCUAGCCUAACUCUUGUUGGAACUUCGCAACCAAAUACCUUAGCAACCCUAACUCCCGGAGUCAUAUACACACCUACGUCAUCUUUUCCAAAAUGUGUUGUAAUGGUUAUCUCUUCAUCAUUUCUUAACAUUCCAGGAGCUUUUAGAUUGAAUUCUUUCUUAUUGUCCUUGUAGUACUGCUUUGGAAUACGUAUCCUCCCCUAAAUAAAAAAAAUAUUGUUAAGUGUGAAUCCGUGAAAAAUUAAUGUAUGUAAGGAUCGAGGUUUUUUUUACCUGUUCAGGCCAGAUGAUGGUCUCCAGAAUGUCACCUCUUAUACCUUCCUUCGACAUCCAUCUACAAUACAACAUAUGCAGAAGAAUUUAAUUUCAAAUUGUCACAAAAAUAGUACGUAAUGGAUAAAGUCGGAGUACAAAUACAACAAAUAUAUAUACACUUAGAAAGAUGAAAUUGUCAGAAACAAUGUUCAAAAUAAAUUAAAAUUGAGGCAGUCCAAAAGUGAAAGUAUGCAAGGAGACAAUUUAAAAUAUAAAAACGAGAAAAACAUCAGAAAAAUAUGCAUUGGACUUGGAUUUUUCACUAUUUGAAGGGGUGUAAAAAGAAGUUAUGGGCUUGUUUAAUAAAAGAAAAGAAACGGGUUGAUUGUAGCCCAAUAAUUCUUCCUCUCUAACCUAGAGAGUGAAAUGCAUAGUAGAGAAAGAAAAAAACCAGAACUUCAAAAAUGACCAUUUAAAAAAAACAGGCAAAAUUGGUAAAUAACAGAGGGAGAAUAAUAUGUUAGAGAACUGAUGAUGUGCAGUAAUGAAGAAGAAAUAUGUUUAUGUGUAGGAAAUUGGUGUAUAACUUAUGGGUAAUUUGGUAAAUAUAGAUGUCACUGAAAAGUUGAAGCUGCGUUUGCUUUGACGCAGAAGCUUGAACUUGUGGCUUCAAUCAAACCUGCGUUUGGACACUUCAUCAUGUUCUGCACAAUGACGUUUUCUUCUAUCCAAACACCACAGAAAAAACAAGACUCACGUUUAUAGAAGAAAACGCAGGUUUGGAACUUGUGGCUUCAAUCAAACCCGCGUUCGAAUCGAUCGAUCCUUUUUAUGUUUGUUUGAUAAAUCGGUUUUGAUAUUACAGAACUUGAGCGUUUUUGAUGCAAAUAAACUCUAAUGCCAUAAUAACCAUGAUAGUUGUGGAAUAGUUUACCUUGAUGUGUCGCCUUCCAUGAUGAUGGUGAAGUGGAUGAAGUGGUCCCGAAAGGUUUGUCUGCUUCUGAGAAAGGGGUUUGGUGGUAUGACAAUUGUGAAAGUGAUUGUUUGUGAGGAUAAAUGUCCUUAACAUAACAGCCACAUAAUUGAUUUCCAUUUUCCUUUUAAUUUUCCUCCAAAUAUUGACGUUACAACUCUCAAUAUUUGUGACAUUAUUUAUUUUUAAAAAAAUAUUGAUUUCCUUCUGAAAUUUUGAACUUCCAAACAAGAGAUCUACGAACAAGAUUGGAGGUUGGAGAUAACUAAUAAUAUUUGAGGUUAGAGAAGAAAAACAAAACAAGGAUGUAUGUGGUGUUUGAUGAACUUGGUAGGUAGAUCUUUGGAUCCGAAACAAGAUGAACUUUUUUUUUUUUUUGACGAAUAAACAAGAUGAACUUGGUAAUUGUUUCUUCAGAUCCAAAUUAUUUUGUAAUAUAAUCGGCUUUCCUUCAUUUAAUAUGCACACCUUUUUAAUAAAAACCAAUACAAAAACAUUUAUUAUUUCGGGGGCCAAAUGUGUAAUUGUCGAAAAUAUUGUGCUGUGUCUGAAAUAACAUUUAACACAAAAAUGGGGGUCAAUGUCAAAAAGUAUAUAAAACCUGCAAAACCGGCUAUCAUAUGUAUUUCCAAUUAUUUUCAUUUUUGUGCACCAUACCAAAAAAUAUGCCCUUGGGCAGGCUAGAUGCUACCCCACAAUGGUAGUUGCUUAAUGGAGAAUCCUUAAAUGGACUCUAUGUUAAUAAAAGUAAGGACUCAAUGAUUCCAAUGGAAAUAUACUAAUAUAGACUCCAAUGAAAAAUAUUUAAUCAGGUCUCACUAACUUUACAUCAUUAAACAAAAAUAAUUUAUUUAUUAAACCUCAUUUAUUUAUUGGUAUAAACUUAAAUUUCAGCCACAUAACAUUACAACUUUUACAUUCUUUCGUUAAAUAAUAAUAAUAACAACUAGUAUAGUGACCCGUGCCAGCACGGGGAAAUAAAAAACUUUUUUGAUCAUAAUUGUGGUUAUAAUUUAAAUUUGAUAAGAAAAAAACAUCAUCUUAAUUUUGUAUAUAUUUUGAAAUAUCUAAACAUUGCAUAUAACGAUAAAAGUAUUUGGAUUAUUAUACUUGUACUAAUUAUUUGUCGCAUAAGAUGCACUCAUUGUUAAACUUAGCAUAUGUAAUAUUUUUGCAAAAAUACGCCGAUGUACUGUAUAAUAAUAUUUGUUGACAAAAUGUAUUUUAUUAAUCAUAAAAACUAAAAAAUGUGUAUUUUUUUUAUAUAAUAGUUAGUGUCACAUGCAUACACGUAGUCGGUAAAUGCAAACGUUUGUUAUUUGUUUUUAAUUUUUACAAAACAAAUGGUCUAAUGUAAAUAUUGUAUUUUAGGAUAACAACGAUGUAAAAAAAAAAGAAUCCGCGACAAAGAAAUUGCAUGUCUAUAAUGAAAAGUACGCCUUACAAAGAAAUUAAAAAUAAAACGACUUCCAAACAAUAGGCAACUUUAGAUUUCUAAAUUAUAACAACAAGAAUUCUAAAACAUAACAAAUGAUCAUACUUUUUGAAAAACUUCAUGAUAUACAACAUUUGUGGUCUCCUUGUCUCCUUACAAACAUUAUUAUCCCUGGCUUAGGAAGAUAAACCCCCACUCGAGAUAAAGAUUGACCCUGGCUUUUAUUUAUUGUUACAAAACAAAGCGUCAAUGAAAAUUGCAUGCGCCUGAAUUUGAAGGGUAGUCCUGGAUCACUCGGAAUAAGAUUCAUCAUGGAAAUGAAUACCAUAGUACAGCUCUUUUUCCUGUAAUUACGGUAGCAGCUAUCGUGCUCUUCCCUAGGUGUAACUGACAACCUAGUACUAUUACACAGUCCAUUUGUUUGAUCGAUGUUUCUCAUCAGCAUAAUUGGACAUCCCACCCUUAGUUUCAAUCGGUGAUUUGGAAUUCCAGAGGUCUUAAUACCAUGAAGAAAUUCCAAAUGCGAGAUACACCAAACCUAAAAAUGUGAAAAACAACACAACCAACCCAUAUGCGAGAUGAGAAACCUUCUAAAUCCAUCAAGAGCUCUGGAAUUCCAGAUCUCUUAAUACCAUUAAUAAACUCGCAUUUGACUUUAUUAUUAUUAUUCUCCCUUCUAGGGGUUUCUUGACACAUUUCUCCUCUUUCAACUGAUUCAAUAUACCCCUUUUUUUUAUAUGACCUUUGAUUGUUUUGUGAAACUGAGAUUUGGUCGGUUAAACAUGCUUCAUAAUCCGUUAAGGGUUUAAUGUGAAUCAUCAUUGUCUCUGCAGCCCAUGCCACCAUCUUUAGUGGCUUUGUUUUCUAGGAUUGUAAGCUUCACCAUUUGGACGAUUUAGAUUGCGUUGGUGCGGUUUUGUUAUUCAAUUCAUUGUUUCAACUGUUGGUUUCCCUUCUUCGUAUUGGCUUCAGACUCUUUGGCUCGUAAGGGCGCUGACUUAGCGUUAUGGAUGUUUUUUUGUGUUUCAGUUCGUUUGAUGGCCGUUGAUUCUUGUUAAUGUCAUUUUCGUUAGAGUGGGUUGUUGGUUAGUGCAUGCUACAAUGUUUCAUUCAACAUGUUUUAGAGUUGGGUUUUGAUUUUUUGUGGUCGUCUUUAAUUUUGUGAUCCCAAACGUUCAUACACCACUUUUUUUUUUUUUGGAAUAUAGUUUCAUCCAUGUACGUGGGUCUGUUGGAUUGUGCUCGUGAUUAAUGUUCAUUUCUUCAUAUCCUGUUUUUACCCGUUUGCGAUGUAUGUUUAUUACCCAUUUGUGUUUGUUUUACUUUUGUGUAUUUUAGCACUGUUUCUAUUAGCAUCUAUGGUGUGUAGAUUUAUUGGGUCAGGUUUUGGUCCCCCAGUCAUUGUACUUCCUUUUUAUUUUAAUCUACUAUAUCCUUCGCUUGAAAAAGUUACACAAAAAAAUACAUCUUACAUACAAUUAACAUAUAUUUAAGUUAUUUGACAUAUAGGUCACCAUAUAUUUAAAGUAAAUUUAGUAUAAAUUAUAAAGCAGUAAUAAUAAUGUACCAUAUAAAAAUGCCAUUUGAUUUAAUAAAGUAUAGUUUAGGGACCUUGCAGUCGAUUCUAAUUUAGAGAUCAAGUUGGUGAGAGAGUGAUAGUUUAUGACUAAUUUUACUCUUUAUAUAUAUAUAUAUAUUCCUCAAAAAUUGGUCAUAGAUGACUCGCUGAAAACCAAAAUUGUGACGCUGUUUAAGCGAUUGGUUAUAAGAUAUUUCUCAACAUCGGUAUAAUAUCUUAAAGCUAAUGUUUGUAAUUUAUCAUUUGAUUUGCAUGUUUGGCGAGUAAAUCUCUUAGUUUGUCUGGGAUAACUCACUUAGUUUUUUUUUGUUAGAUGGGUUGGCUUUGUGAUAUAUCUGUAUGACUUUUUAUUUGUUACGACUUCAUGCAGACUAUGUUUUUAGAUAGUAACCAUAUAUGUUAAUUUCAUUUUGGAUUCUUCAAAAGGAAAAAAUAUAUUAGUAUAAUAGUAGUGAUUAGAUUUUACAUAAAAAGACAAAAGGGAGUUGACUUUGUAUAAUUAUUUCCAACUAAUCGAUGAAAAAUUUGAGUUUUUUUUUGUUUGAAAGAAGAAAAUGUUUUUUUUGUUUGUAUAAAAAAAGAAUAUAAUUUGGUUGCUUUUUGUGGAAUGAAUGCUAAGUGGUGAAUGAGAUUUAACAAUCAAGGUAAGAAAAUACACGUUCAUACGAUAGAAGCUCGUAAUAAUUAAUAUUGAAGAUAACAUGUCAUGAUGAGAUUAAAUAAAGAUAAUGUGAAAUCCUUAACACUUACAUUGUGUAUUUAAUGUUUUGGAAAAAAAAAUAUUAUGGAGCAAGGGUGAAGUGUCAUGUCACCAUGCUCUUUUUUUUACCGAACUUUGGUGUGUUGGAAAGUUGAGAGGAAAUACAUGAAAUGUUUUGCUUGUUAGAAAAGUUAUUUAUCCAUUAUCAACAAUUUCUCCACUUUUUCUUUUGCUAUUGUUUCAAGUAUAGUGGUAGAAUAUUAAACUACCAACAAUUGCAAUCCAUCAAUGUUGUUACCUCCACAUUGAAAUUGUAAUUAAUGGUUUUUAUUCAUUUAAGAUAUAAUUAACAUGUUUUUAAUAAAACGCUUCUUAGUUCCUUUAUAAUAAAUAACAUUAUCAAGACGAUAUAAUUGAUGUGCAAUUAAAUGGAAAAAUUAUUUCAUUACUCAUGAUAUUUAAAAUAAUAUAUUAUUUUCUCUAAAAAAAAAAAUGCAUUCUUUUCACUUUUUUUUUAUUACUUUCUUUCUUUUCAUUUUUUUUAUUACUUUCUUUCUUUACACUUUUAUAUGAUAGAAAAACAAUGUUACAAUUUCUCCUGUGUCGAAUCUCAAACCGAGUUUCUUGAGAUUGAAAAGAGAAACUCUCAACCAAAUGAUUUCUCGGAAGAUAUGCAAAUAAUGUUACAAUUUAAAAGUGACAUUAAUAAUUUUAAAUGAUAUAUGCUUUUCACUUUUAACUUCUUUUUUUUUUCUUCGUAAAUAUAUAUAUAUAUAUAUAUAUAUAUAUAUAUAUAUAUAUAUAUAUAUAUUUUGAUGAAACUUUGAAAUGUCGCUUUAUGAUUUUUCACAAAUUUUUCAGGAAUUACUAUUAUACAUUUAAAGUGAAAAUGACACGAUUCUUAUUGCCUUUUUCAACAAACAAUAUCAAACUUGGAUUUGAAAUAGAACACCAAAUUAGAAAUUCAAAUUAAAAAUGUAGUAUUUAAAUAUAAAAAAAUAUUCAUUUUGAAUUAUGGGGUUUUCAAAUUCAAUAUUUUGUUUUGUGAGUUAAUGGUAGUAAAUUUUUGACUUUUCAUAAUUUGUUUCCGAUUCAACAUCACUGCCAAUUGAGCAUAAAUUAAAUCCAUUCUCUUGCUUAAUACUCCUAUCAGACCAUAUACAUAUUAAAUUAACACACUCCAAAUAACAUUUGAAUCUAUUAGGCACCUACAAAUUAAACACAUGUAAAUUAUUUACCUUCUAUUUAGAUAGAUACACCUUAUCCCAACAUACCCAAUUAUUUUUUCUUUGUUCCAAACCUCCACUUUAAAGGAACCUUUUAUAAAUUUGAGCUACUUCUUUCGCAACCUUUAUUGGUGCCUUAAAGAAAGACAAAAUGAAAAGCGGUAAGCUACUUACACCGAAUUUACAAGGACCAACCUACCUCGUAUAAACAAAUAUUGACCCUUCCACCACAAAAGUUUCUUCUUCAAUAAAUUUAUUAUCAUAAUCAAUUUUUGUGUUAGCACCUAACGAAAUACUUAAAAGCAUAACUAACGACACACUAUCAAUGUUACAAGAAAGAAAAUAUAAUGCCACCUCCAUAAAGGGGUCAUCCAAAUAUUAAUUCGAAACUUUCCAAAAUAGUUUUGAUGCUCCACAAGUUUUCCCAUAAUCCGUCGUUAAUCAAUAUAGUAUCAUUUGCAUAUUGAAGUAUAUCGAAACAUUUUUUUAUGAAGAAACUAAAUUAGUUAAUUCAAAUUAGCAUCAUAGACAAUCGAACCAGAAACUUUAAGGGGAAACACACUCCGACGACUUAAGUCAACACCACUAGACCAAAGUAUAUCGAAACUUAAUUCAUUAUUUACCUUAAAACUUUUAAAAGCUUCAAUAUUUGUGUGUUAAUAUUACCAAAUUUUCCUUUGUUUGUGUGUGUAUUAAAUUUGACUUUUCAUAUUUCAAUGCAAGUUAGUAGUAUUAAUUAGGGUAUGUUAAUGAAAAAAAAAAUGUAUCUAAUAAUUUGAAAAGGGACUUACAUUUAGGGAUAAAAAGAAAAUCAAAUGGGUACCUAGAUAUAAGGACGGAGUGAGUAAUUACAAACAAUUAACAUGAGUUUCUUGUUAGAAUUAAGAUCGAUGGAUGCAAAAAACGAAAUUUAAGAAAGAAUUUUGAAUUACUCAUAGAAUUAAGAUUUGCAUCAAAUGGUAACGGAAAUCAAAGUCAUAUAUGCACUCUAAGUCGUGUCAUUUACAUCCAUGGUUUAGUAUGUUUUAGUUAUCUCGAGUCCUCAUUUUACAUUUAUUAUGAAUUCAAAUUCAAAUUUGAAUAAUAAUGUGUAGAAUAAUUAUAAAAUAUUUCAUUUAUUCACUUUAAUUUGACAUUUUCUUCGAUCGUAUAAAUUAUAAUGAGUGUUCUUAAUAUACGACGUGUUUAGACAAAUGGGUUCUAGUUAAUAAGCCGUUCAAGCGAGGUCGCCGGUAUAAAUGAGCAUAUUAGAAUUGCCUAUAUAAUUUCUCCAUCGUUUUUUAGAAGCACCUCUAAUUUUUUUUCGCAUGUAUUAAAAAAAUUGGUUUGUAAAUUUAAUGUGUACAUUUCAUACGUAAAAUUUAAUAAUACCCUUUGUAUUAUUUUUAAAGGAAAAUACCCAUUGUAUCUUUAACUUUCAUAUUUUAUUUGGGUAAUGAAUUCUUGCAUUAUUUAUGUUCAGAAAAAAAAAAAAAAAAGGGACAGCUUUGAUGAAAAAAAAAAGCACCUAGUUUUUUGCAAAUGAGCUCAUAAUUAUAUUUAGAGUAAAAAAAUUAUUCAAGUAGAACUUAUUAUUAAAGAGGGAUUAAGUUUCACCCAAACAUUGAAUCGCAUAUAUUCUAAAAUAACAUCUGUUUAAUACAUUAAAUUCCAUUUUGAUAGGUACAAAUCCUGUGCAACAAAUUCAGAUAUCAGAUGGUCUCAAUGUGCAACCAAUUCAGAUACUCACCUCUGAUUUGGCUGAGCAACACAGAGAGGAACAACAGAGUGACAAAUAUCUUGAUUUACGCAUUGUUGGUCAUUGGAGUGAUGUUGUCACCAAUCUAGACUACACUCAAGGUUCCUCGUCAUUGUGUGGCACACUUUCCUCAAGAAUUGAGGUUUUAAACCAAACGUCGCUCAUGAAUUGGAGAUUUUGCGGCCACAUUUCUUGAAGGGUAAUGAUGAUAGGAACUUUGUGCCUCAACUUUACACUGAUGAAGAAGAAAGAGAGGCCGCUAUCAAUUAUCUGAGGAACCGCACUGCUGCUUCGGAAGAGCCCUACAUUGAGGUGGCGUCUCGAUCCACAAAGAAAAAGAAGCAGAAGGGUUUUCGGAUUCACAAUACUCGCUCCGCAAGUAGGUUACCAGAUUGAUUCAUGAGCUUUCUAUGAGUUACUUUCCUUGUUCUUGUUCUUGUUUGUUUUCUUUUCCCCUUUGUUUGUAUGCUUUUAUUUUCUUGUUCUUUUUAAGUUUGGCAUUUGGCCCCUGUUUUUUGUUGCCUUUAUCAUUUGAGAAGGUUUUGGUUAGGUCCCCCUUCUCCUUUUGUCCUUGUUUCUUUUUAUGUUUAUAUAUCUAGGGUGUUGCAGUUGAUUCUUCAUCUGCGCCCCUUUUGUUUGUUUAAAAAAAAAAAAAAAAAUCUAUUAUGAUUUGUUAAAAAAAAAGUUUGAUAUGUUUAAAUACACAUGUCUGGAUUAUAAAUUAAAAUAAAAAGAUUAUCAUUUUCUUUGUAUGUUAUACAUAAUAUUAAAUGAGCUUUGUAACAAAAAAGAUGUAUUAAUUGCUUUAAAAAAAAUGUAUUAAAAUGAGAUAACAGAAAAAAGAAAUGAAAUGAAAGGUAGUAUUAUUAAAAUCAUUGCAAAAUAAAACUUGUCAAUCACCAUAUAAUUAUAAAAAGCACAAGGUAUUUUUUCUUGGUCACAAGACCAAAUCAAUAAUGUUUGGAUACGCGCACAUAAAAAAUUCUCUUUAAAAUAUUCAAUCAUCUUUUUUAUCAAUUUCCUCCUUCUUAUUAAAAAAUACAUAAGAUUUGCAUCAACAACGUUACUCAUAGAAUACAUUUUUCCCUUUGCAUCAUACUCUUGAUACACAAGAUAUAUACAUCAAAUUCAGUUUACAAUAGCAAGAAUUGGCAAAAUUCUCAAACAUGUAGCGCUGCUAAUGCUGGAUUCGACCUGUAAAUCAAAGUUUGGCAAAAAUGUUAAUCAAAGUUCAGCAAAUAAUAGCAAGAAUUAUACACCCCUAACAUGACAAUUAAAAAAAUGAUUAAUAAGAAGUCUACAAAUUCAUCCAUUAGAUCGAUUAGAAUUAAAACGAAAUCAAUGUAUAUUAUAAUUUUUAAAAAUGAUUAGUAAGAAGUAAGAAUGGAAGAUUGUGUUGUACCAACAAAAAAAAGAAGGAGAUAUUAUCACUUCACAAAUAAAUCAAAACAAAACUUCUACAAAAAAAAAAUCAAAACAAAACAAUAGGAACAAUCAAUCACCUUUGAUUCUCUCACAUGAUUAAUUUUAGAAAUUAAACCUUUUAUGAAAUGAGAGCAUGAUAAACAAUAAAAGAAUAAGAAAACAAAACCGAUUUAACAAACCAAGAAAAUACUGGUUUACUAACGACACUCUCAAAUACUAUUUGUGUUGAAUUUUGAAAGUAGUGUUAGUGAAAAGCAUGAGUCUCAAGACGAUUAUUUAUAGCCAAAGAAAUCAAAUAAUCACAACAUAAUUAACUUUGAUUGGUAGAAAAUUAAAAUAAAUGACAAAUGAUUGGUUGAAAUAGCAAACAAUGAUGCUAAUAUAAAAAAUGACCGAGCAAACUAAUGGGUAUGAUUAUAGGCUUAUUAACAAUAUUGAUUAUCAUUUAAAUCCUAUAAAGAAAGGAUAACUAUUUAUUGGAAUUUACAAAUUAGUUGGCCGGAAUCAAUGGAAUUUGGAAUAACUUUGUUUUGCUCGAUCAAUAGUUUAUGGACCAAUUUUAAUGUACUGUUCAUUAUACAAAGAAUGUUUAUAUAUUUUUUAAAGAAAAACUAUUAUUUUUUAUUAAUAAACCUAAAAAAACUAUAUUUUAGAAAGACACAUGAUUAAAAUAACUGAAUGAUUUCAGAAACAUUUUCAAUAGACAGUUUGUCCUUGUUCAUAUCCCUAACAAACCAAAGUUGAAUGACUCGAACCAUGAUAUUCCAAUUUUCUUUCGAAGGGGAAAUAUCAGAAACAUAAUUGAUUUUUUGAACCAUUUGAAGUGUAAAGAGAGAUACGAAAUCGAAAGAAAGAAAAAUGGAGAAUUGAAAUUCUGAUGUGAAGAAAGUGUUAGCCAAGAUGUCUAAUUUAUAGUAUAUUUUACAGGAUAAUUUCGUAAAAUAUUCACAUUCAACUCGACAAUUCAUAUUUAAAUUUAUAUCUUAGUCAUUAAGUAAUACAUUUUUUUUUUGUGAAGCAGCGUAAUUAACUUUUUCAAUCAGCCCAUGACUUAAGGUUUAUUUUAGCAAGUCCGUUAAAUACAAUUAACUGAAAUCAUAUUUUUGAUAUUCUUUGUCAAUCAUCCAUUUAUGAUAUUCUUUGACUAAUGAACUUAAUGAUACGUAUUUAAUUCCAAUUAAUUUUUUUGAGGUUAAUUUUUAAUUCCAAUUAAUCAGCUUCAAUUCCCUUUUUUUUUUUUCUGUCCUAAAAUAAAAAUAGCACAUUUCAAUGAAAUUUAUUGAAAAGAAAGAACAGUUUAAUAAAAACCUUAUCAAUCAGCCCAUGAUUAUUGUUUUUGAUAUUCUUUGCCAAUCAACCAUCUAUAUAAUAUAAAUUUAGGAAAUAGAAUAUCAUAAAAAAAUAAUAAGUUUGCAAUUAAUGGAAAUAGAAUAAAGUAAAUUUUAAUGAGCAAUAAACACCGAAAAUUGAAAUAGAGCAGGAUGAAAGUUAUUACUCAAUUUGGUGUUUAGAGUAAUUAAAAUGGGAAAAUAUCAUAGCAAUGGAAAUAGCAUUUAAUGAGCAAUUAAAUUUUUAUCACUAAAAAAAAAAAAUGACAUAGAGCAACACACUUAAUAAGAAAUUUAAUUGAAACGCUAUUUUGUUAAAAAAAAAAAAAAUUUGUCUAAUACCAUUAAUAUCAUUAUUACGAAAAUAAAAAGUAAGAAAUGUCUAACAUUAUUUGGUGUUUUUUUUUAAUAAACACUAUUAUGCGUUAUUAUUAAUAAAAAACAAAUUUGAAUAAUUCAAUCGAUUGUUUUAUUUUAAUCUUUGAAUUCAAAUAUUUUAAUUCAAAACUAUCUUUUUUGAAAGAAUUUUAAUUUAAACUAUUUGAUUAUUAAAAAAAAUUAUUUGAUUCAAAUUUGUACUUUUUGAAUUCGAAAUGUUUGAUUUCUUCUAAUAUAAAUUCAAGUAAUAGAAUUUGAUAUUGUAAAACUUCCUUUUAUACAUGAACAUUAAAUACAAAUAUGUAAGGAUGAUUGUGGUGAGAGCAUUUUGUGAGGAUCAAUAUGGUGAGAGUAUUUGUAAAAAAGAAAGGGACAUGUGGCAACACCAAAACAAUAGUAAUUCAUUUCCAUAAAAGUCUAUGAAAUAUGUCCUAAAUUUAUAUUAUAUAGAUUCAUUUUUUAGACAUAAUUUAAAAGUACCUAAAUUAGAGUUAUUUUAUUUGCCAAUAUACGACGACUGUGACCGGGUGAGUGCUCUCAAGUUGAGAACUGGUAUAUAAUAUUAUCUUAAUUUAUUUCUCCUAAAAACAUUUAUUCAUUUUAUAUAUUUAUAAUUUAAUUGAGAAUAAUUAUUAUACUCCAAACAAUCUUUAUCUCUAUUAUAAAAAUUUGGCUUCAUGAUUUUAAAAUGUACGUGUGUCACUUCUCCAUUCUAAUGAGCAUCAAUGUCUAAUCCUUCUCAUAAAAAUUGUUUACACAUAUGAUCCAUUUCACAAGACAAUGUCAAUGUAAUUUAGCAUUAAUCAUAGGGAAUAAAAAGAAAUAAAAUCUCCACAAUUUUUAUUUUGAAUUGAAACAAUAUCUACCAUACUAAUUGAUUACCUUAAAUUAUAUCUUUUCAAAAAAAUAAAAAAUGAUCUUAACUCUAUUAUGUUACAGAGACAAAAAAUUAACAUGGUAAAAAAAAAAACAAAAAAAAUUCAAUUGCCACAAAAAUGAUAUGAACGAAAAAAUUGGUUUAAUGGUAUGUCAAAAAUAAUAAUUCUUAACGGUAUCAAAAAACAAAUAAGCCAAUUAAAUAUAAUAUAAAGACUAAUAUUAUAUAUUUGUAUUAUACAAUUCAUUUUCUAAUGGAGGAAACAUAAGUAUUUGAUUGAUUGCAUUUUUAAAAAAAAAUACGUCUCAAUAUUUAAUAGAAAUUAAUGUCUCAAUUUAAAUACAUAUUAUAUCAGUUUCUAAUUUAACCCUUAAAAAAAUCAGUUUCUAAUUUAAAUGCAUAUAUUAUCUCAAUCAAUUAUGUUUAAUGGUAUGAAACAAAUAAGUAUAAAUUUUUAAAUGUUUUUAAAAAUAAGUAAGCCUAUUAAUUCUGUUUAAUAGUAUACGUUUGCAAAACAAAAAAAAUCAACUGUAUAUCUACUUAUAUAGUAUAUGUUUGUAAAUGUUUUUUUCCAACGGUUUUGUAUAUGUAUUUUACCAAAGGUAUAUUUCUACAAAUAAGUAAACCAAUCAAAUUUUAUAACGUCGUCACAUUUUAACACUUCAACCAAUAACAAUGUAGCAUGUGGCAUCUUUUAUCUAAUAAUCCAAUCAGAAUACGUUGUUUUGUUUAUUUGCAUCAUAUUUUUUAUUUAAUCAAAUUGCACUUUACUUAUACCAUUUAUCUACAUAUGCUUUAUGUUUCUUCAAUCAUUCCAUCUUCCUAUUUCUCUUCCAUAUAGCGUUGUCAAACUCUUAAAAAAAUUAUCGUGGUACCAAAAUAUAAUUACAUCUAUCAUAUCAACCCGAUCAAAGUUGGUUCCACCCUAUUUUUCAUCAUGGUGCCUAUAAAUAUUGCUACAACUGACUUCUUUAAAUCUCGCAUAUUUUUCUUUGGUUCUUAAUUCUUCUGAGUUUGCAUUAUAUUAAAAACCAUCAUUUUAUGUUCAAACAUCUUUCUCCCUUCAAAAAAAAAAAUGUUCAAACAUCUUUCUAUCUCUCUAUAUGUUUCAGACUAUGUCUCUUUUUUGUUCAAUUUUCUUCUUUUUUUAGAAAGGAGUGAAAUAUGUUGAUUGUUCUUCGACCAAUUAUUUUUUGGGUUUGUCUAAAUUUUAUUGAUUUGUUCUAUUUUUUUCCAGUUAUUUAAAUUCAUUCAAAAAAUAGAAGCACGAGACUACAAUACAAGGAUUGAAGUUCAACACUAUAAAGAAUAUUCUUUUUAGGGGCACCGCAAAUAUUUUAGAGUUGUAUAUUUUACAGAACUAAUAAGUUGUAUAACAUCUCAUAAAUAUUUGUAUAUGUAUACAUACAAAGUUGUAUAUCUUAAUGAAUGCAUACGUUGUAGAGUUGUAUAUUUCCAAUCGGACAACAAAAUAUUGAAUGCUUUUGCUAUUAAUUUUUUUUGGGUGUUCAAAGAACUCUGAUCUACAAAUUUAAGGAGUUAAGGAAGGAAAAAGUCUAUUCUGAGUAACUUUGGUGUUGCUACAAAUCUUGGAUCUUAUUGGACAAAAAAAACAAGACAAAUUUUGAUUAUUAAAUGUUUGCUUAAACGGAACAUAGCAAUAGCCAAAUAAAGCCAGAAGGAUGCACAACAUGCUAAAAACUAUGGGAUUGUGUGGUGGUUUCAUUCAAGGAGCUUUUUUCCCGUUUCUUUCAUGAGAAAGUAAGGAUUAAACGAAUGACAUCAAAAAAUGAAGAAAACAAUUCGUCGUAAUGACAAGACUUCUCAUGAGCCUAAAUUGAGUUGGAUAAUCAUAUUAUACUAAGAGAAAUUGCACAAGUGAGAUUAACAUCACACCUUCAUCCAAAUUCUAAAGGCAUUAGAUACAAGGGCAAUCUCACUAUAUGUUUUCCACUUUCUAAUAUUGCAUGCAAUCUGGAACUUUAACUAAUAUAACACAUAUUAACAUCUCUUCCUUUACGUGUUAGACUCUUCGCAUCGGUGAUUUUGUAAUAUAGCCAAAUAAAAUCAGAUGAAGUCAUUUGAUGGUAAAAAAAAAAGGUGGGUUGAUGGUGAUUUAAUACAUGGGGAUUUACGUUCUUUUAUUUCAUGAGAAGUUAGAAAAUAAAUUAGAAAAGGAAAGAAGAUAAAAAAAAUAAUUUGAACAUGAGAGAAAUAAUAAGAGAAAAAUAUGUAAUGUGGGUUUUAUCGGUGAUAGUAUAUAAUAGUUUGAGUUACCGGUAAUUAUAUGGUUUUGUUGAAGAAGUUGAAUAUUUUUGGGUUAGUAUUACCAAAGAGUAUGACUUUAUUAAAAAAACAUCACAUCAUUUUAAAAUGUCUAAUAAACAUAUAUUUUAUAAACUCAUCAUAACUCAUCUGGAUUUUCCAUUGUCACAUCCCCCAAAGACUAGAAGUGAAGGAAUUUAUAAUAAUGGAGGUUGACUACAAAAAUACAAUGAAAGCUAAUGACAUCCGACAACAAAGUUUUACAGAAAAAAGGUUAAUUAAAAAAAUAUUGCAUAUAAAUAAGAUUUUUUUUUGGUUUUAGUCCAUAGAAAUAAGUCACAUUUUUAAUCGUUGUAACAUUUUCCUUUGAACAUUUUAUAGCCCAAAUUGUUGACGGAAAAUUUUACAGUGACUAAAAAUAAUGCUGACAGAAUAAUUUUACAAGGGCCAAGAUGUGCGAUUUAUUUUUGUAGAAAUUAAAAAUGAAAUUCUUCAAUUUUUUUUUUUGGUACAAAGAAAUUCUUGAUAUUUAUAGAGACCUUUUAGCUAAUUAACUCUUCAAAAAAUAGCAAAUAACAUCGAAAAACCGACAAAAUAGUUCAUCAUAAUGUUGAGUCUACAAAGGAAGCCUAGAAUUGGUCGAAAUAUCACAUUAUGAUAAUAGCAAUCACACAAGUGAGACUAACACCACAUCUACGCUUAAAAUGUAUAAUAGAGUAGUGCUAGCACACUCUCUUUUGAACACUCUCUCUAAUACUCACUUUCUUAUUGGUUUAAAUCAUUGCGGAUCUACACUUUGGAGAUAGAACUCGCAUAAAGUGGUGAGACAUACAUUGAUUUCAUCCAAUAAAAUAGUGAGUGCUAAAGAGAGUGUGCAAAAGUGAAUGUUGCUAGCAUUCAACAUUUAAUUUGUCAACUCAGUAUUACGCGUCUACAAUUUUAUAAUCUAUAAAAUACUAAAGAUUGACUAAAAAAAUAAGUAAAAUUUUUAAACAACGGGCAUCUAAAAUAAAUAAAAUAGUUUAUCAUAAUGUUGUGACUUUCAGGGGAACAUAAACUGAGUUGAACAAUCACAUUACAUCAAUAGAAACCAUAAAGUGAGACGAACACCACAUGUUCAGUUAAAACCUUAAAGCAUUAUGUAUGAGUCAUCUCACUUAUAUUAUUCUUACCACAUACUCACUCAUAUAUGACAAAUUAACUUCUCUCUUAAAUGUGAGACUCUUUACAUCUGCAAUCUGGUAACAUAACCAAAUAAAGUUAUACUUAGUCACAACAUUGUAAAAAAAAAAAAAAAAGACUUGCGGUGAUUUUAUGAAGAGAUGUUUCUAUUCCUCUCAUUCAUGUGAACAAAGAAACUAAACCAGAAAAAGAAAUAAGAUGAAAAAGAAAUUUUAACUUGAGAGAAAUGGUUAUGAAAAAAAAAAAAAAAAAGGAGUGUGUGCUUUGACCGUGAGAGUAUAUGGAAUAUUGUUUGUUGCUGGUAAUUUUAUGGGUUUCUUGAAGAAUUUAGAGUAAUUAAUAUACCAAAAAUUAGACUCAAAUUUAAAAUUUUAAAUAAGCGUGUAUAUUGUCAACUUAGCAAAACGGCAUAUGCAUUUUUCCAUUGUGAAGUUCUACCAAAGACAAAAAAUGAAGGAAUUUGAAAUAAGUGAGGUUGAAUAAAAAAAUAGCAUGAAAAUGAACGAUCUCCAAUAACUAAAAUUUAACAUACAAAAAUUAAAUAAAUGAGACCCACCAGCUAACAAAUAAUUCAUCAUAACUUUGGGACUUCCAAGGGAUCCUAUCUUGAGUUUUAUCACCACAUUAGACCAAGAAAAAAUACACAAGUGAAAUUGAUAUCCUUCCAUCUCACUUAUAUGUUGUUCAAAAUUUAUCAUUUCAUCCAAUAUAAAUUUUUAACUCAUACUUGACACAUUAACACCUCUUAUUCAAAUUUGCAACUCUCCUGUUCAUAAUUACGUGAUAUAGUCAAAUAAGAUCAAAGGAAGAUACAAUAUGUUUAAAAAAGUUUGUUGGCGAUGGUUUCAUUACAAGUGGUUUAUGUUCCUUUCGUACAUGGGAAGGGGGGAAAAAAUAGAAGGAAAUCAAUUGAAUGUAUUUCAUGACCGUCUUUUCACUAGUUUAUAUAAGAAAUGUACUAAUAGAUUCGACGAUAAUUUGAUGAGUUAAAAACACAUGACUUAUCAUAUCUGUUUAAUUCACGUGACAAUACAUUAUUAAAUGUAUUUGUAAAACUUUUGUACAUUGAUGUAUAUAAGUUAAGGAAAAUGUUGGUGAGUACCUAAAAGCAUUCUUUAAGAGUUUAAAAUAGUAAGUUUAUAUGAAAAAUUUGAGUAAUGCAUUGAAAAUUUAAAUGUUUAACCUUUUAAAUAUAUGCAUUGAAUUCUUCAAAAAUAUAUAUAUGCAUUGAAUUAAUUUCUUUAUUUAAAAUUCUUAAAGAGUGUCCUAAGGACACUCGUUAGCAAGACCGUGAAUUAAACUCUCUAUUAGUUGUUCCAUAAGUGUAGCUCAGUUGGUAGCUAUCAGAGAUAAUUUAUGCAGGGGCCGGGGUUCGAACCCCGAAUUCGCCACUUCUCCACACAUAAUAUGUGUGAAUCUAGCCACUAAACUACUUGAUCAAAAAAAAAAAAAAAACUCUAUUUGUUUCACAUUAGUCAUUUAAGUUAUACAAUGAAAAAUAACUUGGUUGAAGAAAGAGAGAUGAUGAGUUUUUUUUAUUAUUAUAAGUUUUUAUAUAUUUUAUCGAUUUAGAUCUGUCACGUCAGAUGUUACAAACCUUAAAUUUAGAGGACCACAAACGUAGUUUAGUCUUUAUUAAUAAAUAACUUACUGAAUUAGUUUUCGUUAUUGCUUCCUCAAUAUUCUUUGAAUUCAUACUUCAUAGGUUGACAGUGGCGGAGCCACGUUCACCUCAGGGGAUGCACAUGCACCUCCUCACUAUUAUAAUUUUGCACCUACUAUGCUAUUAUAUUUUUAUGUUGAAUCCCCUCAAUUUUCUAUUUUGCACCUCCUUUGCAUCUGACUUUAAAAUAUGUUCGUAGAUUUAGGCACACAUCUUUUUUCUAUUGGAUUUAUUUAUGUGCUGGCCUGCUGGAACCCGCCAUUAGUUAUUACCGAUGCAAUUCAGCUUUUCUUGUCGACUAUAUUUACCUUCUUCUUAUUAUUAUAUGGGUUUUUCCAUCAUGUAAUUUGCACAUGUUAAGAAGUUUAAAGUAGUAACUUUAACUUGGAACUUGUGUUUUUUAUAUUAAAUAUGUAGCUUUUAAUCAAUAAUUGUUGGUUUUUAAUGAAAAAUGACUACUUUUAGUUAUCUUAACAUGUGCAAUAUUGCACAUGUUAGACAAACCCUUAUUAUUAUAUUAUAAUAAUUAUUUACUGAAAUACCAAGAUUGAAUCUCCUGCUAUUGAAUUUAACAAGAUAUACCACCAAGCCCAUACGAAUCAGAUUGGUUGAUGCGCGCAAGUGUUAUUUAUAACUCAUAUUUCAUAAAAAACUUUUAUUACCUUGUUAAAAAACUUUUUCUUUUCUAAAUUAUUCAUGAUAUUACUUUUCUAUAUUAUUGGUGAUUGAUGAUAUUACUUUUCUAAAUGUUAAAUGGUAAAUAUUAGAAUUUACGGUUAGUGUAAGAAAUUUAAAAAAUUUAUAUGUUAAUAUAACAACUUUUGAAGUUAGCCAUGAUCAUUUUUAUGUUAUGAAGAUUGUAAAGACUAUGUUGUGUAAUCAAAUGGAAGCAAUGGGAUGUAUUACACCACAAAAAAAAAAAAAAUAAGGAGGUAAUGGAUGACCGAUUAUUAUCUCAUGACUUAUAUUGAGAGAUGAGUUUGAUAACAUGAAUAAUAGGUUGAUAAACCGCAUUUGGGACCAAAAAAAAAAUCGAUAAACCACAUAAUGAAAAAUUGUAUAAUGUUUUUAAUUUUGAUUACAAUUUUUUUAUGAAGGAUUACAAUUUUUAAUCAGUUGGUAGAGACAAUGCAUAAUAUACGCAAGGUCCGGGGUUCGAACUUCAACCACCAAAAAAAAAAAAAAAAACAUCUAAAUUCGUGGCUUGAACCCCCUGGUCCAGGGUCCUGGCAACGCCAGUGGGUUCACCAUAAGCCAGCUGCUUAAACUUUCAGAGCCUAUUGUACAGUACAGUUUAUAAUCUUCUUCUCUUUUCAUCUGUUGCGUUUUUUAAAUAUGACAGAGGCCUUACUUGGUGUUGCAUUUGAGAAUUUAUUGUCUCUUGUUCAAAGUGAAUGUUCAACCAUUUCCUGAAUCAAGUUUAAUGCUCAAAAGCUAUCAACCACCUUAGAUCUUAUCAAGGUUGUUCUUGAAGAUGUUGAGCAUAAGCAAGUCUCAGACCGCUCUAUUAAGAUAUGGCUUCAACAAAUCAAAGAUGAUAUAUAUGUGCUUGAUGAUAUCCUUGAUGAGUGCUUGAUCGAGUCUGGUCGAAUUAGAGGCUCAUCCUCUUUCAAACCAAAGAACAUUGUAUUUCGCCAUGAGAUCAAUAGGUUGAAAGAAAUUACCAGAAGAUUAGAUAAGAUUGCUGAAAAUAAGAACAAAUUUCAUCUAAGAGAGGGUAGAUGACUUAGGGAAAGGCCACAUGAAGUAGCUGAAUGACGCCAAACCAGCUUUGUUAUUGCUGAACCAAAAUUGUAUCGGUGAGAAGAUGACAAUGUUAGCGGCCAACUCUCGGGAGGGAUUUAGUCCCACAUCGGAUAGAUAGGAUUCUUGAGAAGAGUUUAUAAAGAGGAGGAACUCCUCACCGUACAAGUCGGUUUUGUAUGGAUCAGUUAGGCCUCGAUAUUCGUGACAUGGUAUCAAAGCCUAUCGGGUCCAUCGUUGGGCUUGCAUCGUCCACGCUUCAGGCCCGUUGGGACCGCGAUGAAGUGUGAGGGGGUGUGUUAGAGGCCAACACUUGAGGCGAUUUAGUCCCACAUUGAAUAGAUAUGAUUCUUGAGAAGAGUAUAUAAAGAGGAGGCACUCCUCACCGUACAAGCCGGUUUUGCAAGGAUAUGAGUUAGGCCUCGAUAUUCGUUACAGACAAAGAUAAGAUUGUCAAGUUUCUUCUCACCCAAGCGAGGGACACUGACUUCCUUUCCAUCUAUCCCAUAGUUGGUUUAGGAGGUAUUGGAAAAACAACUAUUGUUCGAUUGAUCCACGAUGAUAUUAGGGUGAGUGGAAAUUUUAAUAUAAUAAUUUGGGUUUGUGUAUAUGAGACUUUCUCUCUCAAUAGGAUUGUGUGUUCUAUUAUAGAACCUAUCAUAAGAGAGAAGUGGGAUGGCUUCAAUUUAGAUGUAAGGUAAAAUAUAUUUGUUGAUUUUGGACGAGUGUGGAACAAAAAUCAAAAACUAGAAUUCGGAUUAUGCCAAGAGAAAUGGAAUAUGUUGAAAUAUGUGUUGUCGUGUGUAUCCAAAGGUAGUUUCAUUUUUGCGUCCACUCCUGAUGAGGUUGUUGCGACAAUCAUGGGAACUUGUAAAACUCAUCCUUGUUCAAACAAUAUGUUGGGAAAAAUCCAAGUCCCACAUCGGAUAGAUAAGACUCUGAAUUAGAGUUUAUAUAGAGGAGGCAAUCCUCACCUUACAAACCGGUUUUGUAAGGAUGAGUUAGGAGUGAUGAAGUAGUGAUAAAAAAAAAAGAAAAAGGAAUGACUUGAAAUUAAAGAGAGCGAACUUUGGGUUUUACAACAUAAUGAUUAUAGUUUGUCUGAUUUGAGGUUGAGCUACUUUCAUUUAACUCCAACCUUAAAGCAGUGUUUUGCUUUUUGUGCCGUGAAGGAAUAAUUGUUUUAUCUCUAGAUGGCUGAUGGAUUUAUUUCAUCUAGGCGUAAUUUGGAGGUCCUAGAUGUUGCUAGCAUGGCUUGGAAUGGAUUGUGCCAAAAACCAUUCUUUGAAGACAUCAAGAUCUAUGAAUAUUCUAAAGACAUUUCUUUAAAGACGCGUGAUCUUUUCAAUGAUCUUGCUCAAUCAAUACUGGAGCAACAAUAUAUGUAUCUGGAGAAUGCAAACAUGACUAGUUUGACAAAAAGCACCCAUCACAUAAGUUUUGACUCCAAUAAUUUGUUAUCAAUCGAUGACGGUGCCUUCAAAAAAGUUGAAUCCUUGCGAACAUUGUAUGACUUAUAAAAAUAUAUUCCACAUAAGAACCUAUAUUGCAUUUUCUUAGGUGCAUAUUUUAGCUAUGACAUUUCUUAACAAUGUUUUGUAGAGAAACCUAUGUUGCAUUUUUUAGUUCGUUUUAGUAACUUUUUGAUUUCGUAUUGUUUAGAAGGGACCUUAUAGCCACUUCGAGUACAUCGAAGCAGCUUUUAAAACUUGACAAAUUAACGAGGUAGAGCAUGUGAUAUGGGAAACAAAGUUUGUAUAUGUUGAUAUGUAAACUAAUGAAAUAGAUGUCUAAUUGAUUUUCUAUUUGGGACUCGAGAGUUUCAUAUCUUAAUUAUGUGUAUGCACAAACGAUGUAGAUGCAAUACAAGAAUGAUAUUAGAGGUCCACAUAGCAAUAAAAUUAAUUAAUGAAAAUAUUAUAACUAUUCUCAUCUAUACUAUAUAUAUAAAGAAAAUAGUGUGUUGUAUUUUUUUUCUGACUUUUUCUCUUUUUAAAAUAACCAUCAACUUUCAAUAUAAAUAACAACUAUAACAAAUUGAUAAGAGUAAAUGAAGUAUAACAAACACGAUGAGUGUAAAUAUGUUCAGUUUUUUUCUUUUAUCCUUUAAAGGCGUAACAGACUAGAUAAGUAUAUUUAUACUUACUUUUUCAUUAUCCCAAUUAUACACUUAUACAAUGUUUUCUAUAAUAAAGAUUGUUGUUGGUUUUAUUAAAAAAAAAAAAAAAGAAUUUAGAUUAUAUUUUUUUAAAAAAAAUUAGAUUAUAUUUUUUUGUUAUAUUGUUGAUGUCAUUGAAAUGGAUAGUCGUGAUUAGUUUGAUUUGUUAUAAUUUGAAAUUAAAAAGAAUUUAUAUUUUUACUUUUAAUCAAAAUCAAAUUUCAUAACAAAAAACACUUAUCAUAAUUUUCAAAUGUUAGUGUGAUAAAAAAACAGAAAGACGGACACAUGAGUGCAUGUCUUUCUACUAGUUUUUAUAAUUAGAAUAUUAUAGUUAUUCUCAUUUUAAUUUAAAAGAUAUAAAAAUUAUAAUUAAAAAAUGGCUUAAAUAUGUAAAUCGUCCCUGUAAUUUGGCGUAUUUUUUGUUUUCGUCCCUGUAUCUUUUUUUGUUCUAAAACAACCCCUAUAAGUUAAUAACUUUUUGAUUUUCGUCCCUCCUGUCAACUUCCGUUACAAAAACGCACAUGUGGAAAACGGAGGAUGACGUGGCAGACAAUGCUGACGUGGCAAACUUAUUGAUGAGUCACACAGUGAAAGGUACCAAAAUCAAAAAACGAAAUUUGUAGAAGGACCAAAGCCAAAAAAACAAAAUUCGUAAAGGGAACAAAACCAAAACCAAAAAACGAAAUUUGUAGAUGGACUUGACUAUUUCCAGGACCAAAACCAAAAAACGAAAUUUGUAGAGGGACCAAAACCAAAAAACGAGAAGACGAAAAAUUCAAAUUUAAUUACAUUUCUUCAUCUUCUUCUUCAUUACUAUCAUUGUCUUCAUAAACUUCAUCAUCAUCAAACAAACACAAAAAUUUGUAGAUGGACUUGACUAUUUCUAGGACCAAAACCAAAAAACGAAAUUUGUAGAGGGACCAAAACCAAAAAACGAGAAGACAAAAAAUUCAAAUUUAAUUACAUUUCUUCAUCUUCUUCUUCAUUACUAUCAUUGUCUUCAUAAACUUCAUCAUCAUCAAACAAACACAUAAAUUCAUCACUUCAAAAUUCAAAAAUCCAUCAACUUAAAACAACAACAAACUCAAUCCAACACCUUCAAUUAUACCUUCAUGUGAUAACUUCUCUUUUAUUUCUUCUCACAAACAACAAAAUCAAAUUAAACCAAUAUACCCACUAUUCAACGUGCAAUCCAAUUUCACACACUUUAAAAUCGUUUAAAAUAAAACUUAUCUCAAUUCAACAUUCCAACAUAUUUUUCAAUUCUAUUUAUUAUCCCUCUAGAUCUUCAAAUGAAAAGAAUAUUCAUAUCAAACUUGAACCUUUCUCUUAUAAUCCAAUUUCACACAACAAUCUUCCAAAUCAAUCGGAAAAAAAGAACACAACCCAAAUGUUCGAAACAAAAAUGAUGAGAUUAGAGUUCAAAGAAUUGACGAAGAAAGUAUUUGGAGUGACCAAGAAAUAGCAGAGAUGCGAGAUCAAUGAUGAGACGAGAGUUGGUAAUGAAAAAAAAUCAUUCUUUAGGUUUUUCAAUUUGAGAAUUUUGUGAAUUUUUCAAUAUUGGGAAUUCGAGCAUUCACAAUGAGGAUUUUGUUGUUAUAAUUUGAUUUUGAUAUUAUCAAUAAAAGUUUAGUGGGACUAUGAACAUUGUGGAUUUUAGUGUUGAGAUGUCAAUCUGACCAUUGUCAAUGGGAAUUUUGUUUGGGUUUGUGAGAAGUUGUCUAUUGAGAGGGAGAUGAUGAUUUUGAAGUUUUUUUUUUUAUCUCUUUUCUGAGUAUUUUCUCUUGGGUUUUUUGAUGAUUUAUGAAGACAAUGAUGAAGAUGUAUAAGAGGUGGAAGGAAGAAGAUGAAGAAAGCUAUUUUUUUCUCGCUUUUUGGUUUUGGUCCCUUUACGAAUUUUGUUUUUUCGGCUUUGGUCCCUCUACAAAUUUCGUUUUUUGGUUUUGGUCCCUCGCACUGUGUGACUCAUCAAUAAGUUUGCCACGUCAGGCACUGCCAUGUCAUCCUCCGUUUGCCACAUGUGCGUUUUGUAAUGGAAGUUGACGGGAGGGACGAAAAUCAAAAAGUUAUUAACUUACAGGGGUUGUUUUAGAACAAAAAAAGAUACAGGGACAAAAACCAAAAACACGCCAAAUUAUAGGGACGACUUACAUAUUUAAGCCUUAAAAAAUUGACUAAUGACAACGAUCGUUGCCUCAUUAUAUGAAUUGUAUCUUCGAACGACGUUCAGUAAUAACUCAUCUGUAUAAAAUAAUCUCAAAUUAAUAAAGUGACAAACAAAAAUAAGGCAAAAUUUACAAAUAACAAUUUAUCACUUUUUAUAAUGAAUAAAAAUGUGUAAAAGUUUUUUUUUUUUAAAUAAAAGAACUUUUGUAUAGAAAAAAAAAAGUUAUAAAAAACACAAGUAAGGUUAUUAUAAUAAAUUUGUUGGUCAACUUGUUUUCCUAAAUUUAUUUAUUUAUAGUAGAUAGAUAGGUAUCGGUGAAUGACCUCCUUGCUUGGAUUGAUGGUGCAUAAUAUUAGUACCUUGACUUUGUAAUUAUUGUAACUGUUGCAGGUGUCUUUCCUUCUCACACCUUGUGCAGGGAGUCACUGGUGUCUAUAAUAUAUCUCAUUUUAAUUUGUUAAAAAAAAAAAAUUCAAAAUCGUAUUGAAACUUAUAUUUAAUUAAAUAAAUAGAAAGGUCUUUUUUUUUUUUGACAAGGUGUUCUUUUUGUUAAGCAGUACAUAUAUGCAUAUUAUAUUUUAGAGGAGUAAUAUUUGAACACUCAUUUGAGACAACUCUUGUGACAACUUUCUCUCUCUCUCUCUCUUCAUUGGUCAAGAACAAUGGAGAGAGAAAAAAGAAGAGAGAAAAUAAAAGUAUAAUGUGAGUAUGAAAGAGAAAAUUGUCAUAAAGUGGUUGUACAAAUAUCAUUUCUCAAUAUUUUAUUGAAAAAUUGGUAAAAUAGAUAAGACUUGUUAAGCUGUCCAAUAGACUUGUUCAAGCUGUCCUAUACAUUAUUAAAUGCAUAAAACAAGUCCUGCACCAUAAACAAUUGGUUAUCGUCCUUAGCCAGAGCAGGGGUGGAUCCCAACAUGGCAUGGUGUGGCAAGUGCCACACCAAUUUUUUUUUUUUAUAUAUAUUUUUAUUAAUUUAUUGUAUAAUUUUACUCAUAUAUUAAUACAAAUAUCUAUUUUUUUUUAUUUUAUGUUUAUACAUGUAUCUAUAUAUUUAUUCAUAUAUUAACAUGGUGUUAUAUGUUAUUUUUUUAAUUUAUACAGAUGUCUAUAUUUGUAUUCAUAUAUUAAUAAGAGAACCUAUUUAUUUAUUUAUAAAUGUGUCUAUAUUUGUACUCAUAUUUAAUAAAUAAAUAUUUUUUUUGUACAAUUUAUACACAUAUAUCUAUAUUUUUUAUUCAUAUAUCAAUACAAAGAGAUAUGCUCUAAAAAAAAAAUCAAUACAAAGAUAUAUAUAUAUAUAUAUAUAUAUAUAUAUAUAUAUAUAUAUAUAUAUAAAAUUUCUACACAAUUGCAAAUUACUUCGAAAAAAAGCGCACACGGGUAUCUUGUUAGAGCAUUUGAUUCAUCUCUUGUAACCUAUAUAGAAAGGGAUAUUCUUAGAACAAUUAGUAAUUAUAUAAUUUUAGUUUAUAUUCAACAAAUAAAAAAUAGAUUAUUUUCUUUGUAAUUUUGAUUGCUACAACUAUUUUUAAUAUAUCUUCUUAUUAAAUUUAAUAUUAUUUAAUUGUUUGACAAAAAAAAAAUUUGCCCCACUAAUAAUAUUGUGAAAUCAGAUCCGCCCGUGACCCAAAGUACUAAAUUUAAAUACUAGUGGCAUGAAAUUUUAAAGAUUAAAUAUAAGUGAAUGACGUUUCACCAACUUGAAUGAAAUUUUAUAUGGAACGUAAAUAAAAAAAGGGUUUUUCUAACCUGUGCAAGAUUGCACAGGAUAAGAAGUGAUUAAUGCACCAUAUUUUAUGGGUUUCUCCAAAUCCUAUUAAUGAGCCAAUUUAUUAGCUUCUUAUUUGUUUUUUUUUUUUGACAAAAUUUAUUAGCCUUUCCUUAAAACUCGUUCUCUUCCACGCUCACCGCACCAAUAAGUAAGAACAAAAAACUGUUCUCUCUCUCUCUCUCAUAUUUGUUUUCUUCUAAAAGCUCUCUCUCUAAUAUUCAUUCCAAUGCAGGUAAUAACCAAAUCGGAAUCAAGGUAUAACAUGAAUUAUAUCUUUUGUAAUAAUUUCUUCUGGUUCUUCUUUUGCUUUGAAUUUGGCUAAUUCUUCUCACAGUGUUCAAAUUGACGGGAGAACCAAAAUUGGGCUCAAGUACACUAUAUUCCAAACCUCUCAAACUGCACUAACCCGUAUAACUGCAAAGCUUCUUUUUUGAAGGAACUGCAAAGCUUUUAAAAGCAAACUGUAAUAUUUCAAACGAAUGAAAGCAAACUGCAAAGCUUUUGUGACGUGAGAAGAAACUGUAAUAUUUCAAGCUUAUAAAAGCAAUCUGUAAUCUCUUAAAAAAAAACUGUAAUAUUUCAAACUUGAAGAGUGACGUGAGAAGAGAAUAAAAUGUUUUAAUGUCUUUGUAGAAUGUGUCUUUUAAGGGAAGAAGAAGAAAAUGUAUUAGAGAAGAGAAGAAGGAAAAAAAACAAUUUUCAAGGAAAAGACUCGUUAAUAAGGUUUGGAAAACCCAUAAAAUAUGAUGCAUUAAUUACUUCUUAUCCUGUGCAAUCUUGCACAGGUUAGAAAAACCCAUAAAAAAAUGCAGGCACUAGAUUCAUAAACAUUUUCUGAAGAUCGUUAUUCUGUCUGUCGGCCACAUCUUAUUGUCUCCAUUGACAGAUUCAUGAACUUGUAGAUUCUUUAUUCGUGCUCAAGUAUCAAACCAACGCAAAAGACACAAUUACACAAAUAGAAUCAAUAAUGGGCCCCAAUAACGUUAACAUUUACAUAUUUUUCAUUCAUGCCGACAUUAAUAUAUUUUUUGUAAAUUGUUUGUGAGCACCUACAUGCUGACUUUCUACUUUCAUUGCAUUUAUUUUCAAAGGUCCUCCAGCUUGGUUCAACACUCAUUCUAUCUAAACAAAUUUCUCGUCUUCUUAUCUUUUCAACUCUUUAAUUUGUUUUCACAAAAAAAUGGCCGACGCUUUGCUUGGAGUUGUGUUUGAAAAUUUGACGGCUCUCCAUCAAAAUGAAUUUUCAACCAUUUCUGGAAUUAAGUCAAAGGCUCAAAAGCUAUCAGACAACUUAGUUCACAUCAAGGCUGUUCUUGAAGAUGCUGAGAAGAAACAAUUCAAAGAACUCUCUAUUAAGCUAUGGUUACAAGACCUCAAAGAUGCUGUUUAUGUGCUCGAUGAUAUCCUUGAUGAGUACUCGAUCGAGUCUUGUCGACUGAGAGGAUUUACCUCUUUCAAACCAAAGAACAUCAAGUUUCGCCAUGAGAUCGGUAACAGGUUGAAAGAGAUUACAAGGAGGUUAGAUAAUAUUGCUGAACGUAAGAACAAGUUUUCUCUACAGAUGGGUGGAACUCUUAGGGAAAUCCCAGAUCAAGUAGCUGAAGGGCGCCAAACCGGCUCCAUUAUUGCUGAACCAAAAGUGUUUGGACGAGAAGUUGAUAAAGAAAAGAUUGUUGAGUUUCUUCUCACCCAAGCGAAGGACUCUGACUUCCUUUCCGUCUAUCCCAUAGUUGGUUUAGGUGGUGUUGGAAAAACAACUCUUGUUCAAUUGGUCUACAAUGAUGUUAGGGUGAGUGGCAAUUUUGAAAAAAAAAUUUGGGUUUGUGUUUCUGAGACUUUCUCGGUAAAGAGGAUUUUGUGUUCUAUUAUAGAAUCUAUCACAUUAGAGAAGUGUCCUGACUUUGAUUAUGCUGUAAUGGAAGGAAAGGUGCAAGGAUUGUUGCAAGGGAAAAUAUAUUUGCUGAUUUUGGAUGAUGUGUGGAAUCAAAAUGAACAAUUGGAAUCUGGGUUAACACAAGAUAGAUGGAAUCGUUUGAAAUCUGUUUUGUCGUGUGGAUCAAAAGGUAGUUCCAUUUUAGUGUCCACUCGUGAUGAGGAUGUUGCAUCAAUCAUGGGGACAUGGGAAAGUCACCGUUUGUCUGGUCUCUCUGAUAGUGAUUGUUGGUUGUUGUUCAAACAACAUGCAUUUAAACGUAACAAAGAAGAGGAUACAAAGCUUGUGGAAAUUGGAAAGGAGAUAGUAAAGAAAUGUAAUGGAUUGCCUCUUGCAGCAAAAGCAUUGGGGGGUUUAAUGGUCUCAAUGAAUGAAGAAAAGGAAUGGCUUGAUAUUAAAGACAGUGAGCUUUGGGAUUUACCACAUGAAAAAUCUAUUUUACCUGCUUUGAGUUUGAGUUACUUUUAUUUAACACCAACCCUAAAGCAAUGUUUCUCCUUUUGUGCUAUAUUUCCCAAAGAUAGAGAAAUCCUGAAGGAAGAAUUGAUUCAACUUUGGAUGGCUAAUGGAUUUAUUGCAAAGAGGAAUUUAGAGGUUGAAGAUGUUGGAAACAUGGUUUGGAAGGAAUUGUACAAAAAAUCGUUCUUUCAAGAUAGCAAGAUGGAUGAAUAUUCUGGAGACAUUUCUUUCAAGAUGCAUGAUCUUGUCCAUGAUCUCGCUCAAUCAGUAAUGGGGCAAGAAUGUAUGUGUUUGGAGAAUAAAAACACGACUAAUUUGUCAAAAAGCACACACCACAUUGGUUUUGACAGCAACAACUUUUUAUCCUUCGAUGAAAAUGCUUUCAAAAAAGUUGAAUCCUUGCGAACUUUGUUUGACAUGAAGAAAUAUUAUUUUCUUAGAAAAAAAGAUGAUCACUUCCCAUUAAGCAGCUCUCUCCGUGUUUUAAGCACAUCUUCUCUGCAGAUCCCAAUAUGGAGUUUAAUUCAUUUAAGGUAUUUGGAACUUACUUAUCUUGACAUAGAAAAGUUGCCUAACUCAAUUUACAACUUACAAAAACUGGAAAUCUUGAAAAUAAAACGUUGUGAUAAACUGAGUUGUCUUCCAAAACGCUUGGCUUGCUUACAAAAUCUUAGGCAUAUAGUCAUUGAAGAAUGUCGGUCUUUGUCUCUAAUGUUUCCUAACAUUGGAAAAUUAUCUUGUCUAAGAACAUUAAGUGUGUACAUUGUUAGUUUAGAGAAAGGGAAUAGCUUGACAGAGUUACGUGAUCUAAACCUCGGUGGAAAACUGCAUAUCCAAGGAUUAAACAAUGUUGGCAGGUUAUCUGAAGCUGAAGCGGCUAAUUUGAUGGGUAAAAAAGACCUUCAUCAAUUAUGCUUGUCGUGGAUAUCGCAACAGGAAUCUAUAAUUAGUGCUGAGCAAGUGCUCGAAGAGCUUCAACCUCACUCAAAUCUCAAUUCCUUGACAGUAAAUUUCUAUGAAGGAUUAUCGUUACCAAGUUGGAUAAGCCUUCUUAGUAAUUUAAUUUCUCUUAAUCUUUGGAAUUGCAACAAAAUUGUGCUGCUUCAGUUACUUGGUAAACUACCAUCUCUAAAAAAUCUUAGAGUAUAUCGUAUGAAUAAUCUGAAAUACUUGGAUGAUGAUGAAUCUGAGGAUGGUAUGGAGGUGAGGGUUUUCCCAUCUCUGGAGGUACUCUACUUACAACGCCUACCAAACAUAGAGGGGUUAUUGAAAGUGGAAAGAGGGGAGAUGUUUCCUUGUCUUUCUAACUUGACAAUCUCCUAUUGCCCUAAAAUUGGACUGCCAUGUCUUCCAUCUCUUAAAGACCUCUAUGUUGAGGGAUGUAACAAUGAGUUACUGAGGUCAAUCUCUACCUUCCGUGGUCUUACUCAGCUUAUCUUAUAUGAAGGUGAAGGAAUAACAUCCUUCCCAGAGGGGAUGUUCAAAAACCUUACUUCUCUUCAAUCUCUGUCUAUCAUUAGUUGUAAUGAGUUGGAGUCCUUACCAGAGCAAAAUUGGGAAGGUCUUCAAUCCCUUCGAACUCUACAGAUUUAUAGCUGUGAAGGAUUGCGAUGCUUGCCGGAGGGUAUUCGACACCUCACUUCUCUUGAGCUUCUGACUAUCAUUAAUUGCCCAACAUUAGAGGAACGAUGCAAAGAGGGAACAGGGGAGGAUUGGGACAAGAUAGCUCAUAUUCCAAAUAUACAGUUUAAGUGAUAGAGUUAAUUGAUGUUUAAGAAGCAGAGACGUUUACCCUUAUCUGCCUCAAUCACCAUCGCAAAAUUCAAUUUUACUGGUAAGAUCUCUAUUUCCCCUUAUCUGCCUCAAUUCACUUUAUUUUUAUUCAAAAGUAUUUUUAUAUAUUUCUCAAUCUUGACUUCUUUGGAACCCAUCCCCCAGAAUGAGCACCAGAAUCUUUAUACAUGAAAGAUAUUUCACUGCUCAACUAAAGUUACAAAUGUUCUAAUUCAGGUCAUUUUCUUCAUCAUAGUUUAAUUUUUUUUAAUUUGCAUUUUCGAUUUUUUUUUUUAAUUUUAUUGAUUUUGUUGAGCAUAUUUUAGGAGUGAAGUUUGCUGCUGAAGAUUUCAAUUUCCUUUAACUGAUAUCUCUUUGCUGGUUAUCGUUGGUUUCCAGGUAAACAUAGUUCAUAUCUUAGCGAAUACUUUAAUAUGCAUUUUCUGCCUUAUCAAAUUGAUUGAUUUUAACACACAUAUAGAAACUUUCAGUUUGAUUUGAACAUAUAGAAACUUCAGUCGGCUUUCUUUUUAUUGCAUGCUUCAGGACUUUAUAAUGCUAAUUAGCUUCACACAUCAUAUUUAGAUGUAUGGUAAGAUUUGAUAAAGGAAUUGAGUGUAUUUUGGUCAUACUUACAGGCAAGGGACUGAAUGUAUUUUGGCCUGAAAAAUCAAUCUCCAAAUAAGGCAGUGAACAAUGGUGAUCCAACACAUGAGCUGAACUUAAUUCCAACUAAUAACAGAUGUUGAAAGAGUUAUAUAUAGCUUCUCCUAAGCCUUAGGAGGUUGUCCUUGAUUUUACAAUAUCUACUAGUACUAAUGUUGCUAACAUAAGUGAUUCUUUAUAUUAAUCUCUUUCCCAUUUCUCUAGUGUAGUUUUUUGUUGGUGAGCUUAUAAUCAGACAUUUUGUGUCUUGGUUAUUCCAAACAGUGUACAUACAUUAUUUAUUUAAAAGGGAUAAAUGCUUUUUUGAAUUCAUACUUGAUCAAAUUAUUGCCUUAUGGAAGCUAAAAUCAGUGACUACGAGAUUUUUUUGUCAUUUAUAAAAUUCACUUGUCAACAGAAAUGUAACCAGACAAAGAAUUCAAUAAACAAGGCACAAUGAAAGCGAAAACGAACACUUUCAAAUCUUGCGAAAUCACACACGCAAAUAAAUUGUGGAAGCGAAAACGGACAUGAGUUUGUUAAUCACAUAUGAAAUUUGCCUGGUUAUGUACAAAGGGGAGGGAAAAUUUGGUGAUAAAGUUCAAAAUAUUGGGGUCUCUAGAUUGGACUUGUCUAGUACAAUGAAAGUAGAAACAUUGGUCAUACAAUGUUCUUGCUUAAUUUUUUACUUAAGCAGCAGAAGAUUUUUUAUUUAAUUAACAUGAUUAGGUCUAGUUUUACUCUUUCUAUGUUACCAUACCAACCUCUCUAAUUUUCCCUCUCUAAACUGAUUUAAUUUUUUUUCACAUUAUAAUUAAUUUUUAAUUGAAGUAAAAAAAACAGUACUUUUUUGUGCAUACUAUUCUGUUCUUUUACUUUAUUUUUCGCUUCAAUUCUAAUCCAAUUCAUAUUCAAUUCUAAUUCAAAUAUUUCAUAUCAAAUUAAAAAUCAAACAUUUUGAAUUCAAAUAAUACGGAUUUAAAUCAACUAAUUUAAAUUUAAAUAUUUAAUUUCAGGUAUUAUAUAAUAAAACAAAUAAUAAAAUUUAAAUAUUUUAAUGUCAAAGAGAUCAAAUCAUUGAUAUAUGUCAAAUAAUAAAAAUACGAUUUGAUUAAAAGUAUUGAUAUUGAAAGAAUUUAAUGAAAUGUAAAAUUGUUUCAUUUUUAUAUUCACAAUAAUAAUGUGAGCUAUUAUAAUAUUUUUAAUUUUAAUGAUUGCAAAACAAAUAUGGAAAAGUUAUACUUUUAAUAUAAAAUUUAAUUCAAAAAAAAAAUUGUGCAUUUAAUCUCUUAAAAGUUGCAAAAGUUACACUUUUAAUAUAAAAUUUAAUAUUUGUUUUUUAUCAAUAAUGUUAGAAAAAAAAACACUUAUUAUUCAAACAAUACCGUAUAAUAGUGUUAUAUACAAGUAACAAAGUAAUAAUAAAAAUAUAAUUAUUUAAUAAAAUAUAUUAAUCGAUAUUUCCCUCUGUAACCAAAAAAAAUAUUAACGUGAUACAAACUUCCUAAACAAGUCAUCAAAUUGUAAUAUUUUGAAUAAACAUUAAUUUUUAUGAGAAUAUUUUCCUUAAUGAAUAAUGAUGUCUUCAAAUAAGUCAUUUUAUUAUAAGAUUUUAAAUAAUAAUUAGCUUUGAUGAGAAGAUUAUCCUCAAUGAUAAAUUUUAAUAAUAAUUGUUAUGUACAAUGUAUUUAAUUUUUUAUGAAUAAAUUGAUUAAUUUGUUUACUAACUUUUUUAUUAAAAAAAAUGAAAUAUUUAUGAAUAAAAAUACUUUGAUCUUUUUAAAAAAAUUUAAACCUAAAGACAUUUUUAAAAUAAUUAUAUUAAUCUUUUUUGAAAAAGCGGUUAAUUUCAUUUUAUCAAAAGUUGAUUUAAUUUGGUGAUAUGUCUUUAAUAUCUAAGAUAUGUCUUUUUACCACUAGACUAAACUUUUACAAAUCUAUUACAUUAAUCUAUUAUUUGCUAAUUUUAUUUUUAUUUUUUUUGAUACUUCAUCUUACUCUUAUGUGUGUGUGUGUCAAAUUUUAUCAACUUGUGAUAAAACGAAAUGUGAUAAAAUGAAAUGAAAAGGGUUUCCAAUUUUUUUUACUAAUACUUAUUAGUUUAAUCUUGUUUUUUAUCAAACCUAUUAAUCUAUUGUUCCUGUAUGUUAUUAACAUUAAAAGAGUUUUCUUUUACUUUAUUUUGGAUAUGUAAAUAUUGAUCCAAAUUAUAGUGCAUUAUAUUUGAUUGGAUUUUUUUUCUUCAAAAGAUUCAUCCAAGUCAAAGUUAACCGUGUUUGAUUUUAUAUUUGGAUCAUAUGAUAUUUUGCCUCAAAAACAUUUCGAAUUAGACUUCAAACAAACCUAUAAAUGAUUAUUAUAGUUUUUUAUUUACAGUAAUUUCAAUUUUUUUUUUUUUUUGAAAUCAUUAAAAAAGUAUUGAUUUCUAUAAUCCUAAUGUGCAUUAAUCAUAAUUAAAAAAGAUAUUUUAUCAAAAGAUAAAAGAAUGACAAUUGAAUAUUUAAAUGUUUGAGUUUUAAUUGUUCAAAAAAAAAAUGUUUGAGUUUUAUUAAGGAAAUUAAUACAUAAUAAAAGAGAGUACAACGGGUAGUCUAACUCAUAUUAUACCAUGCAAACCAUCUCCUUCUCCUGAAAAAUAAAAUAAAAAUAUACCUGUUUUUUGUCCUAAAAAAUAACUUUUUUUUUUUUAAAGUAAAAGUGGGAUGAGCACUUUCAAUAUGUCAUUGUUUUUUAAUGAACUGAAGAGAGUUUCAUUGAUGAGAAAAUUAAAAUCAAUCAAUAGUAAAUGACCACUAACAUAGGAAAUACAAUCAUUUAAUUCCUUCGUCGUUUGUAAGAAAAAUCAUUCAAUAAAAAAAAAUUAAAUUUAAGCAAACAUAAGUUUGUGAUCGUCAUGGGUAUAAAAAAAAUUAAUUAUGGAUGAUGAUAACUAUUUAAAAAGAAAUUAAGCAAACAUGCUUCAGCAUCCACGCCUACAGGUGUUCACGGGAUGAGUCGGUUUUCAUUAUAAUCUAUUACCCGAUGCAAUCAAGUUUCAUUAGGUUUGAUCAAUAAAUAAUUACACGUAACUUUAUUUUAAACAAAUCUUAAAAAUAUAUAUAAUUAAAUUACAUUCUAUAUUAUAAAAAUUUCAAGACUUGGACUAGAUUCUACUAAUUAAAAUUUGAACACACUUGAAUUUAAUUGAAACACUUUAAAUCUCUAUGACAUGGACCAGGUAUAUAAUAGUGUGAAACUGGGUCAAUGCGUAGAAGAAACGCGUUGUAUAGCUCAAAUACAAUGUUAAAUGAGCAAGGAUGGAUACAUCGCUGCCUGAAUGCAGUAAAAAAUAAGCAAGGGUCUCCACAUCUUUGUAACAUUCAAUUUAAGGUGUUUUACUCUGAUUAAUUUAUGAAAUUUUUAUGUUGGGAAAACGGGGUGUUACAAUUGGUAUCAGAGCAGGUUGGUCCGUCCGGCCAAGUAGUUGAGUCGUUUGUGUCGUGUGACAGUUAAAUAUUGUCGUUGUGUUUUUCUAAUUAAUAAUUAUGUUUUAUUAUGUGAUCAAGUUGACUGACUAACUUUAAUGUGAUUUUUGUGUAUUGUUGAAGUUUCUAUUUGUUAUCCAUAGUUUAAGAUAUUUAAGCAAUAACUGAAUUUGUUUUCGUUUGUGUUUUGAAUUUCGAGGACGAAAUUAUUUAAGUUGGGGAGAGUUGUAACACCCUAAUUGUUAUUUAAUUAUUUUUAGUUGAUUUAAAGUCUUUCAUAUGAUUUUAAAUGAUUUAUGUUGAUUUUGUGGUGUGGUGUAUUUUAUUAAAUGGCUAUUUUCAUUAUUUAAUAGAAUAAGUGAGAAUUAGGAUUUAAUUGGAGUUUCGGGGUUAAAUGAGAAUUAAUAGAAUUAAGGGGAGUUAAAAGAAAUAAGUGGGAGGUUAUGUUUUACCGAGUUAUUAGAAAAUAGAACCAAGAGUCAGAGAAUCAGUUUUACGUGAAAACAGCAGUUUUGGGAUAAAAUUAGAGAAAGCAAGAGAACCAAGGGAGAGCCAAGUGAACCAGAUUUCUGUUGGAAUUAUUCUUCUGAAUUCAGGUAAGGGUGAGGUUUGCUUCAAUAGUGUAGAUUAUUAUAAUUCUGAUUUUGGUUUAACGUAGUUCUGUUAAAAAUUUGGAAAUUGGGUUUAGGUUUGAUUCUUAGAUUUUUAUAUAUUCUAUUUAAGAAAUUUGAAAUUGUAGUGUGACAUGCCCGUUUGGGUUUUACUCUGAUGUUGAACAAUUAUUAUUUAAUUGAUUUUGGGAAACGGGGUGUUACACUCCACAUCUUUGUAAACGAGUGUGGGUAAUCAAGUUAGUUAAUGAGAGUAUGAUCUGUUUUAGAACAUAGAAUAAAGGUACUCUUAUUUGAACAUAUAUGAAAAUAGUUUUUUUUUUUUUUUUAGAUCACAUAUAUGGAAAUAGUUGACGCUAUGACUAAAAUGAAGAUUAAUUUUAUGUGCCAGCAAAAAACUAUGUGGGUAGGUGAGAAGAUGAGAAGCCAUGAUUGGGAAACAAGGAUCAAGUGGUGACAUUUAAAGGAUCAAAACCAAAGUGUUUUUCUGCAAAAGAUUUUGAAGGAAGGUUGUGUGAAGCUACAUAGAAGUGAAAAUGAUAUGUGGAACAAGAUGACAUAUGAGAUUAGAAAAGUAGCAAAAGAGACACUGGAAGAAUUAAUAGGUUUUGGACCUAGCUAGGAGUAAAAAAUCUUGGUGGAACCAAAGAGUUCAAAUUAAAGUGAGAAUCAAAACAGUACUUCACUAAUAAAAAAAUAGGGAUAAGGGUGAUACACAUUCCAACCUUGAUGACAGGGUUGUUUUCGAGGGGUGUGUUUUUUAGGAUAUAGUAAAGGCUGAUUAGAGUAGUUUAAUAGUUAAAAGGUAACAUUUUUAGGAUAUAGUAAAAAAAAAAAAACUAAGAGUUACUAACUCAACGAUACCAUUCAACAUUUUCUACAUUUUUUAGGAUGAUACGUUUAAAUAUAAAUCUAAUAUUUUUUUCUUUCUCUUCAACGUGCACACAAAUGCAUGCAAAGGUAUUAAUAUUAAUUUCGUUACUUUACAUUUAAUAUACAGAUCUGCGUAUCGGUGACGAUGACUUUAAGAACCUUUGUUUGAUUGAAAUUGAAAUGUUGUUUCAGGAAAACGGAGAGUCGCUUACUGACUUCAAAUCUAUACCCAGGCCAAACGCAGCAGACAUGCCAACUUUCACAAACAAGCUUAUCGUUGAUGAGCUAAAUUACAACAAAGAUGAACUGUAAAAGACACAUGCUGAUAUGUUACUGAUGCUGAUUGAUGAACAAAGAUAUGUGCAUGAAAAGAUCAUGGAGUCUGUUGGUUCUGACGACGAUGGUUUCUUUUUCUUAUAUGGUUACAGUGGUAUUGGAAAAACCUUUAUAUGAAAACAUAGUCGGCUGCUGUUAGAUCGAAGGGGUUAAUUGUAUUGAAUGCUGCAUCUAGCGGUAUAAUGACUCUUCUAUUACCAGGAGGAAGAACCGCACACUCGACGCUGACAGUCCCUAUUGAGAUUAUGAGGCAUCAUCACUUACGAUGGAAAAGGAUAGUCCUAGGGCAGACCUGAUGCGUGCUGCAAAGUUGAUAAUUUGGGAUGAGACUCCAUUGAUGCACUGAUGGUGUUUUGAGGCAGUUGACCGAUCAAUGCGUGAUAUCAUGUCCAAGAUUGAUCCCCUAAACGAGUUUAAACUAUUUGGUGGAAUGACAAUAGUUUUAGGUGGUGAUGUCAGGCAGAUAUUGCAUGUUGUCCGAAAAGGAACGAGGCAGGAUAUUGUUGAUGCAUCAAUCAAUUCAUCAAAGAUAUGUGCUUAUUUUAAUGUGUUAAGACUUACUGUUAAUAUGAGAUUGGGUGCAUCUUUGGUACCUGCAGAGCAGAAAGAAAUUGCUAAUUUUGGCAAGUGGAUACUCUGAAUUGGAGACGGCAACAACGCUUCGGAUGAGAAUGGUGAAAUGAAGGUAGAAAUUCCUGAAGAUUAUUUUUCCAAGAAAGGGGAAUACUCGCACCAACACUUGAUUAAGUUGAACAUGUUAACGAAUAUAUGAUGUCACUGAUUCCAGGUGAAGAGAAAGAGUAUUUAAACUCUGAUUCUGUUUGUCGCUCGGGUGAAAAUUCUGAUGUCCAAAGUGAGUGGUUCACAACGGAAUUCCUUAAUGGUAUUAAGAGCUCUGGAAUUCCAAAUCACCGGUUGAAACUAAAGGUGGGAUGUCCAGUUAUGCUGAUGAGAAACAUCGAUCAGGCCAAUGGACUGUGUAAUGGUACAAGGUUGACAGUUACACAUCUAGGGAAGAGCACAAUAGCUGCUACUGUAAUUACAGGAAAAAGGGCAGGUACCAAGGUAUUCAUUCCCAGGAUGAAUUUUAUUCCGAGUGAUCCAGGACUAUCCUUCAAAUUCAUGCGCAGAUAAUUUCCAUUGACGCUUUGUUUUGCAAUGACAAUAAAUAAAAGUCAGGGUCAAUCUUUAUCUCGAGUGGGAGUUUAUCUUCCUAAACCCGUGUUCACGCAUGGGCAACUCUAUGUCGCUGUCUCUCGAGUUACUUCUAGAAAAGUUUUUUAAAAAGUCUGAUCAUUGGUUAUAUUUUAGAAUUGUUGCUGCUAUAAUUUAGAAAACUAAAGUUGCGCAUUGAUUGAAAGUUGUUGUUGUUUUUUUUUUUUUUUAACUUCUUUGUAAGGCGUACUGGUCAUUAUAGACAUGCAAUUUCUAUAUAAGCGGAUCUUACUGCCAUUGACUAUUAAUUCAUGCAGUUUUCAAGUUUAACAAUCCGCGGAACCUUUUUUUUUACAUCGUUGUUACCCCUAAAAUACAAUAUUUACAUUAGACCAUUUGUUUUGUAAAAAUUAAAAACAAAUAACAAUCGGUGUUUCUGUAGCCCAAACUACAUUUAUACACACCCGUAAAAAUUAAACGUUUGCAUUUACCGACUACGUGUAUGCAUGUGACAAUGACUAUUAUAUAUAAAAAAAUACAUAUUUUUUAGUUUUUAUGAUUAAUAAAAUACAUUUUGUCAACAAAUAUUAUUACACAGUACGUCGGCGUAUUUUUGCAAGAAAAUUACAUAUGCGAAGUUUAACAAUGAAUGCACCUUAUACUAUAAAUAAUUAGUACAAGUAUAAUAAUCCAAAUAUUUUUAUCAUUAUAUGCAAUGUUUAGAUAUUUCAAAAUAUAUACAAAAUUAAGAUGAUAUUUUUUUCAUAUCGAAUUUAAAAUCUAUACAUUUGAUCAAAAAUGUUUUUUAUUUCCCCGUGCUGGCACGGGUCACUAUACUAGUUGUUUGUAAUUAAUCACUCCGUCCUUAUAUCUAGAUACCCAUUUGAUUUUCUUUUUAUCCCUAAAUGUAAGUCCCUUUUCAAAUUAUUAGAUACAUUUUUUUUUCAUAAACAUACCCUAAUUAAUACUACUAACUUGCCUUGAAAUAUGAAAAGUCAAAUUUAAUACACACACAAACAAAGGAAAAUUUGGUAAUAUUAACACACAAAAUAGACACAUUAAGUAAAUUAACAACUUUUCUUCAGAAAUGUGAAAAAAGCAAAGAGGGCUUACACAUAGGGACGAAGGGAAUAAGAAAAAGUUAAUCGUAACCCAUCAAUCUUAUAUAAACUUGGUCCUAUUUAUGAGAAAAAUUCAAAAAAUUGAUGGGUAUAUUUAAUACUCCUUCGGUCCUUAUUGAUCCUAUUUAUGAGGAAAAUUCAAGAAAUUUAUGGGUAUACUAUCUCUGGUUCUUUAUAUAAGAAACAAAACACAUAAAUCGAAACAAAACACAUAAAUCAAAUAGACUAAGGAAACAUUUUGAAAAUAGUUAUUUGCAUUUAAUACUCUUAUAAAUUGACAUGGUGAUGUAUAACGAGGAAGCGUCGACCAUGUUUCUCGCGCGGUUUGAAGCAAAUCAUCGGUUUGUAGGCGGUCGCGAUCUAACAUAUGCUGAAUUUCCAACAAAAUUUACUUAUGAGAAGAAAUAAAAAUAGUGGCAGCCACGUAAACUAGGAUAUCAAACCAAGCAAGUUCUCGGAAUCAAGAGAAUCAAUCAUAGUAUGAAGUAAAAAAUUUGGGAUAAAUAACUUAUUUGAUAUUAUGUGAUUGCUAAUUAAUAUAAAAUUUAAUGGAAAAAAAUUAUGGUCAAUCUUAAAUUUUAAAUUAAAGUUAAAAAUAAGGUAACUAAUUAGUUGUGGAAGUUUCUACUAUAUUUAUAAAUGAUUAUUAUAGUUUUUUAUUUACAGAAAUUUCAAUUUUUAUUGUUUUUAUUAUAGAUUUUUUUAUUAAAGAAAUCAUUAAAAAAAUAUUGAUUUCUAUAAUCCUAAUGUGCAUUAAAUCAGAAUUAAAAAAGAUAUUUUGUGAAAAGAUAAAUAAUGGAUAUUGGAUAUUUAAAUGGAUAUUGUGAACGAUUGUGGGUAAAGAAGUUAGUUAAUGAGAGUAUGAUCUGUUUUAGAACAUGGAAUAAAGGCACCCUUACUUGAACAUAUAUGGAAAUAGUUGACGCUAUCACUAAAAUGAAGAUUAAUUUUAUGUACCAACAAGAAACUAUGUGGGUAGGAGGUGAAAAGACAAAAUAAUUAGAUAGUUCAAGAUCUAAGCAUUGAUAAACCGGAAAAGUUAGAUCGAGAAAUGGUGUAGGCAUUACUGUGGAUAAGGAAUUGAAAAAGGAAAUUGUGGAUGUAAAGAGGAUGUGAGAUUUGAUUGUAUCCCACAAAUUUUUAGUUUAAUAAGACAUCUUUAUUAUUUUUUUUUUUUUAAGGAAAUAAGACAUCUUUAAUGUUAUGAGUGUUUACUCACCUUAGGUAGGUUUGGAAGAAUAUUCUAAAGUUAAAUUUUGGAAGGAUUUGAAAGGUUUAAUUCAAGUAAUACACAAGGAGAAAAUGUUUUUCUAAACCAAGUUGUUUGGGCUCCAGUGGCAAGGAGUUCCUUCCAAGGACGUAUCCGGGGAAUACCGGGUUUGAUUUCUAGGGGGAACAAUGAUUGGCCAGUGCGCAUGCCUCUAUGCAUGAGCUGAAUUAGUCGUCCACCUUAGGUGGGCCGGAAACCGGUGCGAAAGCCAAAAAAAAAAAGAUUUUCUAGGAGGGGAUCUAAAUGGGCAUGUAAGGAGUGUUUGAUAAGUUUUAAAGGCGUGAACAAGGGUAUGGCCGUGGGGACAUAAAUGCAUAGGGUAAUUCCAUCCUAGAUUUUUUGUAGUCUUUUAAUCUUACUUUAGGAAAAUAAAAAGAAAAUUUAUUACAUACAAGAGUGGAAUUUCAUGUUCUCAAAUAUAUUUAUUUCUUAUUAGGAAUUAUGACAGAAAUAUUUGUUUGAAUUUAAUGUUUUACAAAGAGAGAGUUUGACUAUCCAAGAUAUAAUAUUGGUUAUGGAUGUAAGGGUUAAGAUAAGAGCGGAGAUGAGAGGAAAUGAUUGAGAUGCAAGAAUCAAGUGGUGACAUUUAAAGGAUCAAAACCAAAGUGUUUUCCUACAAAAUAUUUUGAAGGAAGGUUGUGUGAAGUUACAUAUAAGCGAAAAUGAUACGUGAAACAAGAUGACAUAUGAGAUUAGAAAAGUAGCAAAAGAGACACUAGAAGAAUUAAUAGGUUUUGGAGCUAGCUAGGAGUAAAGAAUCUUGAGUUCAAAUUAAAGUGAAAAUCAAAAUAGUAUUUCACUAAUAAAAAAUAGGGAUAAGGGUGAUACAUUUGAAGACUAUUACACAUUAAGAAAUUUAGCACAUUCCAACCUUGAUGACAAUGUUGUUUUCGAGGGAUGUGUUUUUUAGGAUAUAAUAAAGUUUGAUAUAGACUCCAAUGAAAAAUAUUUAAUCAGGUCUCACUAACUUUACAUCAUUAAACAAAAAUAAUUUAUUUAUUAAACCUCAUUUAUUUAUUGGUAUAAACUUAAAUUUCAGCCACAUAACAUUACAAAUUUUACAUUCUUUCGUUAAAUAAUAAUAAUAAUUUGCAUGAAUUACAUUACAUUUUAUUUAAAAGAGUUAAAUAUGUUUUUGGUCUCUAUAUUUUACCUUCCUUUAAAAUAUAGUCCCUACAUUUCAAUAAAUAUUUUUAAAAUUCCUAUAUUUUUAUUCCGUUACGACAAAUAGUCCCUACCCUCAAAUCUGUAACGCUUCAACAGUAUUGUUCACUUUCAUCUUCCUGUUCAUGGUUUUCUUCAUCAUAUAUCAUCACUACCAUCUCUUGCUCCUUCUUAGAUCUUCUCUCUACCAACACCACCAACUUAUUACCACAUCACCAAAAACAAAACAGACCCACAAAUUUUCCUAGAAAUUUUGUCAAAGUCUAUCACUCUCCUUUGUUCCUUUAUUUUUUUCCAAACUAGAAAAUCUUCCACCCUGUAAAUUUUGUCCUUCAAUCUUCUUAGCUCCCACUCUCUUUGUUUUCCAAUCCGACCUUGCACAUCAACCGUGGCCAUGUCACAUGCGGCGAUUCCCUGAUUCUGAAACCUCAUUCUAUGGGUGUUGUUGUGUUUCGAUCAUGAAACCUCACUUCCCUUCCUUCAGACUCCUCUCUCUCUCCGCGAUGUUUGUUGUAUCUGUGAGGUUUGAUCGGAAUCGGGAGAGGGUUCAAUGGUGGAAUAAAAUUAGGCAAGAGAGGGGGUGAUGGAGAAUUUAUGAAGUGGGGGGACAGGGAGGAUUACAUAGGUGACUGGGGGGAGGUGCUAUUGAUUGUGUUUGAGGUGUCGUGGAAGAAGAGUUGAUUGAAACCAGUGAGUUAAAGAUCUCUUAUUGUGUGGAAUGGUGGAGGAAUUGAUACCAAUGUGCUAUUAUUGGAUCCAUUAAUCUCUAUGAUAUAACAUGACGAUUGAUGAAUAGUUCUCAAUGGGGAGAAAUAUUUAUGGGUUUAUUGAAGUUGUUGAGAUGAUGAGAGUUUUGGGAAGGAUGAUGAAUUUCUGAGCAGCCACUUGAGGAACAUUUUAUUGUAAUUCACUUGUUUUAUUUUGUUUUUGUUAAAAGGGGUUUUAUUUAAAUUUUUUAUAAUUAAUAAUUGUAAUAAAAUAAAUAUUAGAUUGCCACAUCACCAUUCUGUUUGGUGACUGAGUAUAAUUUAACAGCAGGGACUAUUUAUGCUAACAAAAUAAAAAUGUAGGAAUUUUAAAAAUAUUUAUUGAAAUGUAGGGACUAUUCUUUAAAGGAGGGUAAAAUGUAGGGAUCAAUAACAUAUUUAAACUCUAUUUAAAAUGGGGACAAAUAGAUAAAAUAAUCUUUAAAACAACUAUUAAUUUAAAAAAAAAAAAAAUUAAAACAACUACUCCAUCCGUCCCUUAAUAAGUGACCUAGUUGACCAAAUUACGUAUACCAAUGCGUAAUUUUGAGUUUAAAUAUCUUGAACAAUAUAUUGGAAAAAAUUAUGAAAAUUUGAUAUUUUGAAAAUACUCAUCGAGACGAAUCUAACGAUAUCUUAUAUGAUGUUAUUUAUCUUUGUAUAUUAGUUGAAAAAUACGGUCAAAGUCAGUUAGGUCAAAAUUAAAAAAAUUCCAAAUGGGUCACUUAUUAAGGGACGGAGGGAGUAUUAAUUAUUAAAAUAUUACUUCUUUUGUAAGCGAGCCCACAUAGUACAUAUUUUAUUACUUCUUUUGAACAUGGGACCCGUUAGUUGCUUUGGAGAGAGGGCCCUUAUGCAGUUACCCAUUCCUUAAUAGGGACUCAUUUUUUCUUCCUCCAAUGGAGAUCCUUAAUAGGGAUCCCAUUGGAGAUGCUCUAAAGGAGUCUUUGCAACAUCAAAUUUAAGGUCUCAAUGCCAUUUUUUUUGGUAAUAAAAUGUGGUUAAUAAUAGAAAUCUAAAUUCACGUUAGAACUGAUUAAAGAAAAUCGAUGUUUACACAUAUCGUAAGGAUGAGACAUACAAGUAAAAUACGUAAUUGUUUUUUCAGCAGUUAAAAACAAUUAUGCAGACAGUGAAUUUUGCAUAAUUGUUAAGCAUUUUCAAGCCAUUUUUCGAUCAGUUUUUAUCUGUAAAUAAAUCAGAGCAUUUCCAAAUGCAAUAUAAGCCAUACAACAUUUAAACUCAGUCAUAAAAGAAAAAUACAAUAUCUUUUUGUCCAUAAUUAAAUCAAACCAGCAUUUGGUUCAAAAUACACAAAAGUUUGAAAUUCAUCAAAACGUUACACAGUGUCCAUAAUUAAACAGCACAUUACAACUCAUUACAUAUCAAUAAAUUAAAUCUUUACUUACAUUCAAUGCAAUUGCAUAUGGAAAAAACAUACAUAUAUAAUAUAUUAUUUUCCACAAUAUUCCGAAACAUAAAUACGACGUCGCUAUCGUCUUUAACAAGCCAAGGCAUAUAACUUGCCGUUUUUCAUGCAUAUUCAUCUCUAUCUUCUCCUAGGUCUAUGCAUGACAUUUGACCAAACAAGUGACAUGUAUAUUGAUUUUCACCAAGAUGCUCAAAAUAAGUGUUAAGUUGUGCCUUCAAAUCAUCAAGAAAGUCGGUCGGCGUUAUCAUAACCUUAAUUGUCUUUUUUAAAAGCGGAGUACCUAACAUGACCUUCAAUUUUUGCAACCUCAUACAUGUUUCACUUCACAAAAGCUUUAUGAAAAAAAAUCAUACAUUAGGAUGUAAUUAAACGAAACGUAAUAAUAAUCAAUGAAAUGUACAUAAAAUGCAUAAACAUUAAAAAAUAUGCACUAGUUUCACCACAUAAAAGUCAUAUUAUCAUAUAUUUAUAUAAGUUACAAAAUGUUAUUUAUAUAUUGGCCACAACAAAUUGGUGUUACAAUUUCGACCCAAAAAUACGCGUCGGUGUAAUUUCUACCAAAAAAAGGACUAACACCGACAAGAAAAUCACUCAUUAAAGAUCAAAUGAUUGGGGAAGAUCACGUGAAUUAGAAUCUUCCUCAUCUUCCGCAAUAACUUCAAAUGGUUGCUUUGGUUUUUCGGGAGUGCCCAACAAAAUAGGCGCCGCUUUGUUCGACUCUUUUUGUGGUUUCGGCGGUUUCUUUCCACUUUCAAUAACUACGAGCUUUCGGAACAACUCAUGUUCCCAUGUCACCACAUCUUCUUUCUUAUGAUUGUGUCACUCCGUAGAUGAUGGAGGUAGUUGACAACCAUUCUUCAAAUAAAUAAGCACGAAAUGAUUUGGAAUUACUCCAAGGCACGUGAUUGGAUUGAUCAAGUUUGAUCUUUGUGUAACAGUUAUAAAUCCUGCCUUAUUUGGUUUACGACGUACUCACUCAAACAAUUCUUCCCUAUCUUUCGACUUAACAUCGUCUGGAAAAAAACCUAGCCAUGUCAACUUUGAGGGCAUGAAGUGGGAGGACAUCGGAGGACACAUAAACUCCAUCAAUGUUUGGUUUGGCUUCAACCUUAGGCGGUUUCACAUCUCCGAAAAUUUCGACAAAAUUUGGUUUUGUCUCUCCCGGAACAUCUUCCGUGUUCUCUACCAUUACUAUUAUUAAACAACACAAAAAUAUGAAAUAACAACUAACUAAUGCAUAUACAUCAAUGCCAUAAUGAAUUAAAACAAAAAAAAACAAAGAAUUUUUUUUGGAAAAACUGGCAAUACCGAGGAUUCCGAUGACAGGGUUCUACGUAACUGACGUAGAAACCCAUAACAAACCAAAAAAUAAACUGAUUAAAAUGUUCAAUAGUUGUUUUUUUUUACGUGAAAAGUGUGUUGAUAUCUCCUAUGCUUGAUACUUGAAUGAUUUUGGUGCAAAAUUUGAUGAAAAAAUAUUGAAUUUAAGAAUUGGAUGAAAGUGGUAUGGAAGUUGAUGAUGAAAUAGUAUGUAGGGUGAGCAGGUGACUGUUUCAUUUGAUGAAACAUAUUUCUCAACAGUUAACUACCGAGGUUUUCCUCGACAGUUAACUGCAACCAGUUUUUGAAUUUCUCGACAGUUAAAUGCUAAGGGGGUAAUUACGUAUUUUACUUGUGUGUCUCAGCCUUACGAUACGUGUGAACAACAUUUUCCUAAUUAAAAACAUAGUUUAAGAUAACUUCACGGUAGAACUAAAUGAAAAUCUUGUCACAUGAAAGUAUUUAGCAUAAAUUAAUGUCAAUAUACAAGGUCUAUUUUCUAUAAUAAAAGAGUAAUGAUUACUCCCAUUUGACAAUUCCAUCAUGGGUGGUGGUUGAUGGUGUUCAACCUUAGUGAAGCUUAAUCUUCUCUAUAUUUGUCUACUGACUGGAUGUCCCCACUCCCCAUAUACAAACCAUUUUGAAGAAAAAAUAGACGGGUUAUAGUUCAUCCAUAUUUUGAAAUGAUGGAUUCGAAUUAAUUCUUGCAUUAAUAAAUUAAUAAUCACGGCUCCUUCCGUUUCAAAAUACAUAUUUAAGUCAACAACUUCACAUAUGUCAAUGCACAAUUUUGACUGUUAAUAUAUUUAAUUAUCUGAUGUAAAAAAUUAUAAAUAAAAAUUUAAUAUUUUGAAAAUAUUUGUCGAGACAAAUUAAACAACAUCUUACAUGCUAAUAUUUGUAUUUAUAUAUUAGUUAAAAUGUAUGGUUAAAGUAAAUCAAGUGAAUAGUGCAUAUUGCAAAAAUUGGACAUGUAUUUUGAAACGAGGGAGUAUUUUGUAAAGUGUGUGAGUUAAAUGGAUACUUCCCCCACACCUCAAUUGGAGUUAAGAUCCACUCUAUUUUUUAUUUUCUUUAUUUCUUUAAUUUGGAGAGAUAAAGACACAAAAAAUCUUACAUAUAAUUAAAUUAAAUUAUACCAUCAUUAAUUAAAUUAAUGAGGGUAGAAUUCAUUUAAUGAUGGGACCCACAAUCUAUUUUUUUGUGCCUAUCUCUUUCAUAAUUGCAAUCUCCAUUUUUAUAAUGGAGAGAAUCUCAACUCCCUCAAUUGUCGGCUACCUCCACCCUCCACCUUUCUCUUUCAAUAUCCAAACCCCAUUCCUUUGGAUGUAGCUUUAUUUGGGGUAUUGCGUUCGCGUCUUCAUAGUGUUGUCACCUCACCAUCCACAACCCCUUGUGGGGUAAUUUAAGUAGUUGUCGACGGGUGGUUUACUCUGUCUCUGACAAUUUUAUGUUUGUCAUAUUUAAAACCCUCUUUGUACCGGAUUUUCUCGUGAUUUAGCAAGUUGGUUGCCUAGUCGUGAUGGAGUUAUGGAUCUAGUUAUCCAAAAGGGUAUGUGAAACGGAUGUUGUCAUGUCUAGUGACGUUCUCGUUCUUAGAUUCUUUGAUUUUAUUCAGAUUUGUUGUAAUUUACAAGUUUUAGGUUUGGCGUCUUGAUGGCUUAAUGUGAUUUAUCAAGGGGUUUGUUGGUGUCAUGGUGCGUGAAUCAGUCCAUGUUAGCGGCCAGUUCAUUCCUCGUAGUUCAUAUUGAGAUGUGAAGAGUAAUUGAGAGUGUUAUCUAUGACUCGUCAAUCAACUUUUAUAGAGUGUUAUCUCUGGACACCAUUCUUACUGCUAAUGAGGUGGUUGAUGAGGCAAACAAAUUAAAGAAAGAGUUACUUAUAUUCAAGGUUUACUUCGAAGAGGCACAUAAUUAUGUCAACUGGAAAUAUUUAGAGUCAGUUAUGGAAAAAAUGAAUUUCCCCGUUUUGUGGUUGAAGUGAAUUAUGAAAUUUGUAACUUCUGCAAUGACAUUAAUACUUGUUAAUGAGAGUUCAAAAAAUAAGUUUUCUUUUGGGAGGGGUUAUGACAAGGCAAUCACCUCUCCAUUUUUGUUCUCAAGAAGGGGGAUAUUAGGAAAAGACCUUGGAUUAAUUGGAAUACCAUUAUCUACCUAGGCAAGGAGAACAUAUGUUUAGGGGUGUACAAAUUGCGGGAAUUUAAUUUAGCUUUGUUAGGAAGAUGACGUUGGAGGGUUUGUGUUGAACAUGAUAGUUUGUGACUGAAGGAGGGAGGAUGAGGGAGGCUGGGCGUGGUGAGUCUGUGUGGUGGAGGAAUGUUAAGGGUCUGCAUAGAGGGGAGGGCUUGACAAUAUGAAGAUGAUUUAACGACAACUUGGUGAGGGUGGUGGGAGACGGCACAAGAACGUUUGUGAGAGAUUGAGAAGGUUGUUCGACUAACAGAGAGUUGUUUCGCUACACUAGUAGAUAUGUAUGCGAUAGAUUGACAGUUUGGGGGUGGGGGGGGGGGGGGGGGGGGGGGGGGGGGGGGCUCUGAAAUGACGAUGUCGGUUAUUUGCUCAGGGAGGAAGAGAUGUUGGGGGAAUGUUGUGAGGCUUUAUCUUGCAUUCUUUUACAUGUGGAGUUGGUAUCUUACACCUAACAAAGGUUACGCUGUUAGUGGAGUACACCGAUUGUUGACUGCGGUAGAGUCGAGUACCCGCCAUGAUCUUUAGGAAAUCAUUCAAAAUAAAACAAUACCACCAAAAGUUUCAAUUUUUUCUUGGAAGUUGGGAAAGAAUCGACUUUCUACCAAAGAUAAUCUACUAAAACAUGGUAUUUUCACACAAAUUUAAAUGUUUGUACUAUUGCCUGUGACUUUGAGGAAAAAUUGGAUCACUUGUUCUUGGGAUGUAAGUUUUUUUGAGACCUUGUGUUAUGGGUUUAACCAGUCAGUUGUAUUCUCUUUUUAUGUUUUUUGUUCGUGUAUAUUUUUAACUCUUGUAGUACUUUGUGUUCCUUACACAAUUACACUCCUUGAGUUUGAGAGAACAUAUUUGUAUAUAAUUUCAUUUUGCUUUAUUCACAAAACAUAUACAAUAUAUAUCUUUGUAAUUUUAUUUAAAAAAUAAAUAAAUAAAAUUCACUAACUACUUUUCUUGAUAUAUGUAAAAUAAAAAGUAAAAUGGACUUAUACUAUAAAAAGACAAAAUAUUUAGCGUUUAAUUGUUUUUUUUGUCAAGUAAUAUAUAUAGUUGCUCGAUCUCACACAUUUUAAAUUUGAGGCGUUCGAGGUUUGAACCCCAAUCUCUACAUGUAUUAUACAAUGUUCUUACUAACUGAGUUAAUCUUACCGAUUAAAUUAUUAGUGCAUGAGUUGGAAUUAUAUAAAAUUCUUCCAACUAAGUAAAACAUUUUUUUUAAGGGCACAUGACUUCUUUUUAUUAAUGUAGUUCACAUAAAUUGAGUGCGGACUAAAGUGCAUGAAUAAUAUAAAAUUGGAAAGAUUUAAAGAAUAAUUUAUUUAUAAAUUAAUUCCUAAAUUUUCUGGCUCAAAAGACAAAUUCUUUCAUUUUGUUAAAAAAAUUAAAUUCUUUAUUAUAUGAUAAUUUGCCCGUCUUAAUUUACAAAACUAAUUGUCCUAAUUUAUUAAAAAAAAUUGUCCUAAUUAAGUUCUUGGAUUAAAUAUAAAGUCCAUAUAUCUAUUCCCUUUUUUUAGUUCAUUCUAUAUACACAAUCAAUCUAAUGUUUUGUAAACUACAAGUAAAUCGCAACCAAUCAAAUGAAUGACUAAAAAUAAAAUGAUUAAAGUUUAAUUUCUGUAAUUUUUUCUUUAAAAUUGUAAUUUUUUAUUUUAUUUUUUUAAUUUGUAUAUACCAAUAAUGUAAAAUUAUUUUAUACAUGUAUCCAAUUAAAUCACUUUAUGAUAUCACUAAUUUAAACCCCGACCUUAUAUAUAUAUUAUACAUCGUCUACAACUACACAUUAUAUAUCCUAAUAAUAAAGUUUCAAUUGUUUCAAAAAUAAAUAAAUAAUAAAGUUUCGACAUAAAAUAAUCUCUUCCGAAAAACGUAACGCAAAUUUAAACAUUGGGAUUUGUCAAUUUCCUACGGCUUCAUGAUUAACAUCACCAAAUGACUCAUCUUGCAGUUUUUCUUGCAUAAAAUGCUCUCAUUGACACAAAUGUUAUUCAUGCAAUCAAUUAAUUAAAAUCAUCAUAUGAUAUGGCAUUCAACAUUGUUUUUCUUCUCUGCCUCUUUUCUCAAAUUAUUACUACCACAGUGACAUUGAAAACUUUCUCAGAACCUAUUUCUCCCAAUAUUCUCGAUGUUACUUCAUUAAAUCGAAGUAGUUUUCCUACAAACUUCAUCUUUGGAGCAUCAAACUCGGCAUACCAGGUUUUUUCGGUUUAUUCUUUAUCUAGAUCUUUUUUAUUUUCCGUGGUUAAAAUUGAUAUCGUUUCAAAUAGUUAGUGCAUGUUUGAUUAUGUGGUGAGAUUAAAAAAUUAUGAUGAACCAGAACCACCAUGAUAGUGUAUAGUUUUUGUCAAAAUUCAUCGUGAUUUGACCAAUUUGACCGCUCAACCAAACAUGCUCUUAGUGCCCGUUUGUUUUCGCGCUACAUAAAAAUCAAUCAUGCGUCAAGUUCAAAGCUAGAGUUAAUUCGUAGCUUUUUGUAGUGUAUUGGGAUGUAGUGCAAAAGUGAAUUCAAACAUACACUUAAUAUACUCUAAUCACAUUUUGAAGCAACUUUCUACGUCACAAAUUAAUUUUUUAUUUUUAUUUUUGCUACCAAGACAUGAGUUUUGUUGUGUUCAUUGUAUAUAAACAUGUACAGUACGAAGGUUCUGCAAAGGAAGGUGGCAAAGGAACAAGUAUAUGGGAUACCUUUACUCACAAAUAUCCAGGUUAUCUCUAUCUAUUUACCUUUAGGAAGCUUUUAAAUUAUUUAUUAAAAGCUACUUUGUUUUAUACGAAAUUAAUUAAGCUUCCCACACAAAAAAAAAAAACUCUCAUGUAUAAAUAAUAAAUAUAUAUGUAUACUUUUUAAAAGGAUUGGACAGAAAGAUGACAUUUUUUUGGUCAAGUCCUCUUUCUUUAAUCUUUUUUCCAACUCUUUUAUAAAGUACAAACCAUUCCUAAAGUGAUUUGGUUCGGAUAACAACUUAUGAUUUCAAACCUACAAACUUAAUCAUUUGAAAAACACAUGAGAAUAUCUACUAGUGUUUCAAUUUAGUUAAAAGUGAUUUUAAAUUAUGUAAUUUAGUUCAAAUGUAUGAAUUCUAUUAAAUAGAGUGUCAUUGUUUUUUAAUUUUAAAUUAUAUAUAUGUGUGUCAUGACAUGAUCCGAAUCAAACCAAUUUGUUCAUUACUUUCAUUGGGUUGAUUGCGUAUCAAAAAAAAAGUACAAUUUUUUGAGCCAAUCUGAACUAAUGAUUCUUGACCGAAACUGAGCCAACCCAACCCAACUCAUUUUAUUCGUUGAUCGAAAUAUAUUUUCAAUUUUUUAUAUAAUGUUUGUUUAUUUUUUCUUCCAUAAAACAAAUAAGUUUAUAGGUUUAGUCCUUGUAAUAUAGGCAAUUUUUUUAUUCCCUUAAACUAGAAUUAAACAUUAAUUUGAAAUAAAGAAUAUGUUAAUUAUUGUAAUUUAGGGUUUCUUAAAGAGUAAAAUAUAUUACAAGUACGUAAAAAUAACAACAUUAUUAACUUUUUUAAUCUUGUACUAGAAUAAACUUUUUUUCCCUCAAACUUUAGUUGGGGUAUAUUUAUUUCUUAAGAUCAAAUAAACUAGAAUAUAUUUAAGAGUAAGUAUAUCCCUUAAAAUACAUAUACUAUAAGGAUUAAAACAAAACAACUAGAAUUAAAGUAUGUCAAUGCAUGACUUACAUUUAAUAAAUGGUGAUCGAUAUACAGAAAAAAUAAUCGACAGAAGCAAUGGAGAUGUCUCUAUUGACGGGUAUCAUCGGUACAAGGUAUGAUUCACAUAUCAUUAGCAAAGUGGUUAAACUUAAAACUUUCACUUAAAGCAAAAAUGUCUCAAACAAAUUUUACUUUAGGUUUCACUCAAUGGAUUUUCUACUAAAAUUCUUUAAUAUAUCGAUGUAUUUUAUUUUUAUGUUAUAGAAAAUUUGUUUUAUACAGGAAGAUGUUGGGAUCAUGAAGUAUAUGAAUUUAGAUGCAUAUAGAUUAUCCAUCUCAUGGUCUAGAAUACUACCAAGUAAGUUGAUAAUUUCCCAUCCUUAAACAAUGCAUAUAUCAAGUAAAUUAUUGUAGUCAUAGUAAACUAUAUCCACAUUUAAUCAAAAAAAUAAAAAUAAAACUAUAUUCACAGAUGGAAGGAUAAGUGGAGGCAUUAAUCAAGAAGGGAUCACAUUCUACAACAACUUCAUCAACGAGCUAAUAGCUAAUGGUCACAAAUAUUAAAAUUUGCAUUUUAUAAUUUCUUAAGCAUAGCAUAGUACAUUGCAAUCAUAAUUGAAAAAUUAUUAGUUUUGCAGGUAUAGAAGUAUUUGUGACACUAUUUCAUUGGGAUCUACCACAAGCCUUGGAAGACGAGUAUGGAGGUUUCUUAAGUCCUCGCAUAGUGUAAGCGACGAUGUACUAACGUUAAAACUAUAAUUUAUUUAGAAUUAUAUGAGUAAAUUAAAUUUUCUUCUAAGUUGAAGAAUGCUUUAGAUGUGAAACUAGUAUCUUUUUGUGUGUGCAUGGAGCGGUAAGAAGAGUCUAUAGUGCUACAAAAAGUUUGAUUAUACUUUUACAUUUUGAAUUUUAGAAAUGAUUUUCGGGAUUACGCGGAGCUUUGCUUCAAGGAAUUUGGAGAUAGAGUGAAGUACUGGAUUACGAUAAAUGAGCCAUCCACUUACUGCACAGGUGGAUAUGUUGUUGCGAUAUUUCCACCUGGUAGAUGUUCAGAUUGGCAAAACCUCAACUGCACCGGUGGUGAUUCGGGGACAGAGCCAUAUUUAGUUGCACAUCACCUACUCCUUGCUCAUGCAGCCGCUGUUCAAGUUUACAAGACAAAAUAUCAGGUUCAUUUUAUCUUUGAGUAAUGAUAACUUUGAAGCUCUAAAAUGUACCAAACUUAUGUAUAUUAGUCUUCCUUUCAUCAGUCUUGAGUCUUGACAAGCAGUUUCCUCUAGAUUUUGAAAGCAGGACACAAUCCUUUUGUACCAAGCGCGUCAUAAGGCCUUUAUAUCCUUGUGUCUGCUCAACAAAGUCAGUUUCCUCUACAUCACGAUGUAGAAAAGCACUUUCACAUCUAGUUGAUAAAGGCACCAUCAUUUGAAAGUUGUAAGACCAAUGAUAGUUCUUACUUCUUAUAGUAUAUCCCAUAUAGCAGCAGGGGGAAACAUUUUGCGCUAGACAUCCUUGUAUUACUUGUGUCUAUAGACAAGUUCUCAUAAAUGUUUUUAUCAACUUCAAUACUAAUUGUGCAAGUUUAAUUUACAGGUUCCAUUGUUACUUAAAAGCCAAACUACAUCUCAAAAGGGUUGGAUAGGAAUAGCCUUACAAUCUUACUGGUUUGUGCCGUUUUCAAAUAGCAAAUCCGAUGAAAGAGCUGCAGAACGAGCAAUUGACUUCAUGCUUGGAUGGUUAGUAGCUCAUUGCACACUCGCUCUAUAUAUGAAAUUAUGAACUUAACAUCACUUGAUUAUAUUAAAAAGAAAAAACAAAUGGAGCAUGAUUUACUAAAGCAUUUUCAUUUUUCAUUCAUCUAUCAAAGUAUGAAGUAUUGUUAAUUAUUAAUGUUAUUAUUAUGAAACUCUCAAUACCCUCGUCGUUUUUUGGGUGCAUCCUAUCCUGCACCACCACGAUGUAUUGUAAUUUAAAAAAUUAUAUUAUAAAGUUUUGAAAAUUGAAUAAACACAUAUCCUCAAUUCUAGUAAGGUAUUGCAAGUGUGACAACGGGAGACAAUAUGUGCCCGCGUGCACACACACAGCACCAUAAGAAAGCUAAAAAACAUUCUAUUGAAAUCUCUAUUUCAGGUUUAUGACACCAUUGACAACAGGAGACUAUCCACAACAUAUGCGAUCCUUGGUUGGACAACGAUUGCCAAAGUUCUCUGAAGAACAAACCAGGCUACUCAACGGUUCUUUUGAUUUUAUUGGAUUAAACCACUACACAUCUCGAUAUGCAGCCAAUGCACCUAAUUUAAACACUACUAUACCUUGCUAUCUCACAGAUUCCCUUGCCAAUCUUACAAGUAAACACACCUUUAUUCAUCACUUAUAUCAUAAUGAAUUUUAACUAAUAAUUUAAAUCUUUGUUGAAUUUGACGACGAUCUCUCUUAUUUUUUGUAAUGGAAGCUGAACGUAACGGGAUACCCAUAGGUCCACAGGUACGUACAAGUGCGACCAAAUCAAAUGAAGUUUAUCUUUCUGCUAAAAUAAAAAUAUGAAACCUCCAUGAUUAUAUAUAUCUGCAGGCUGCUUCAGAUUGGUUUUACAGUUAUCCAAUUGGAUUUAAGAAACUGUUGGUCUACAUCAAGGAAAAGUACAAGAAUCCAUUGAUUUAUGUUACCGAAAAUGGUAAAUUACAACAAUCCUCGAUAAAUAUUGCAAAGUAAAUCUAUGAAUGAACAUGAAUAUGUGAACUAGUUAUUUGCUUAGGUGCAUCACACACACACACAUAUCAUAUACAAGCAUAUGGAUAAUGGACUUACCUUCAUGUACAAGAAAUUUUUCCUCACAUACUUGGCUUGAUUUGCAGGUAUAGAUGAGAAAAAUGAUCCAACACUGCCAUUGGAGGAAGCGCUUAAGGACAUUGACAGAAUUCAUUAUUAUCAGGACCAUCUCUCAUAUCUUCAAUCAGCAAUUAGGUAAUGGUUGUUUUUAUAUCUAAAAAUUCUGUCUAUUUGCUUCAAUACACAUCUUAAUACUUUCUAUUUUGUUUUGUUUUUUGUUAAUAUAUAAGGAUCGGCGUAAAUGUAAAAGGAUAUUUUGCGUGGUCGCUAUUGGACAAUUUUGAAUGGGGUGAAGGGUACACAGUGAGGUUUGGAAUGAACUUUGUAGAUUACAACAAUGACUUGAAAAGAUAUCAAAAGCUCUCAGCACAAUGGUUCAAGAAUUUUCUGAAGAGACUUUAAUUAGACUUUCUGAUAUUUAUAUGCAUGUCUCUCUUUGUAAUGGUAUUUAAAAAAGAAACAUAAAUGAAGUAGUUACAUAUGAUUGUUCAUUUUCUAAAGAAAUUAUGCGAUUCUAUAAAUCAUGGCUUUUGUGUAUAUUUAGUCUUUUCUCUUGUUAUGUUUCAAUAAUAACCUUGCCACACCCUUUACAACCCUUACCAUGACCACACUGACAUUUAGAUGUUAUAAGAAUCUUUGGUAAUCUAUCUUGGAAAAGCCUCUGAAAGAAUCAUGAUUCAUAUCGAAGAAUAUUCUUCAUUGCUUUGAAAGUCCACCCUAUCAACUAAGUUUCGAAGACCUACUAGCAACUCCUCCUCCCACUUAAUCACCAUUCACCACUGACACGACCAACACCAGACGCCGUCCCUCUAGCUUACAAUCUCAGCCACAGUUGCUUGCUUCUUUGUUUUCGGCCAUUUGAAAUAGUCGGGGAUACAUCACUCUAAAGCCUGUUCUCUCAAUCCAUUGAUCCUGCAAAAAACAUCAUUAAGGUUAGUUUACCUCCCAAAGAUAUGUGUCUCCCUUUCCAAGCCCUUAUACUCCUUAAAUUUUCCGUUCGCCACAACUUUCGUAACCAGCCUAUAUAAGCCUUCUAUGAUCGAUGCGAAUGCAAAAGGGACAAGUGGAUCUCCCUGUCUAAAGUCCCGCUUGAUUCGACUAUCAUCAAUAGGGCUACCAUUAACUAGUAUAGACACAUGGCUGCCGAAAAUGCAUGACAUAAUCCACUUCCUCCAUGCAUCACAAAAACUCUAUCUAGCAAGCACAUAUUCAAGAAACUUCGAACUAACUAAUAAUAUUUUUGUUGUCCUACCACUAAAAUGGUAAAAGGCUACAGAGAUUUGCAUAGCACAAACUCUGGUACGUGGAUACAGACGCAUCGACACUCCUAAUGUCAAAAAUGCCUAUUAAGCAAGAAUGAUAAAUGACCUUUAACAACACCCUCUUCAUUCCUCCUUACUCCUUCAAUAAUUACCUACAAUUUCAUCAACCUAGUAUAUAGAUUAAGAUUUUGUGAUUAUCAGAAGAAAAAUGAAAAAUCUAUAACUAAAAGCAUAAACACAAGAAUUUAUACUCGAGUUCUAUAACUUACAUAUUAAUAGGCUUUAAUUGGAAACUAAAACACAAAUCCGUUGUAGUCUAGUUGGUCAGGAUAUUCGGCUCUCACCCGAAAGACCCGGGUUCAAGUCCCGGCAACGGAAUCUUUUUUUAUUUAUUUAUAAUUUCUCUUUUUUUUUUUUCCUCGAAGGACUCUGUUUCUUUUAAAUAUUUCCAAUUUUGUAAAUACAUCACGAAAAUGGUAAGUUGGUGCCAAUGGAAUACUACUACCACCCCUCACAAUAUCUGCAGUGCCAAACUUUUGAAAAAUUCUUAUUUUUAUAAAAUACACAUUAAAUUCUUUUAAGUUUUUUAGGACUGAGUUCAGAUAAUUUUUUCUGCAUUGUGAGUUUAUGCUUAUUCAAACUUGAUUUUGUUUAGACAAAAGUAAUUUUAGAACUAAAAAAUUGAUUUUAAUAUGUUUGAUUAUUUUCAAAUAAAAUCAAUUUUGUCUUGAAUUAAUCUCUAAAGUUAAUUUGUAAGCUCAACUUUCUUUUUCAUUUAAGUAUUUAAAUAUAAAUUACUUAUAUUCAACUUACUUUUAAUCAAAAUCAAUUCAUUCAACAUGUGAAAUACGGGGUUAAGUAGAUGUUUUCAAGACAAUGAAAAAGUUGAUAACCGCUUUGAGUAAAUACAAAUAAUAACAUAUCUGAAUUUUAUUUAUUAUUGUCAUUUUGAAAAGAACAAAAACACUUUGGAACUAUUUGUCAAAUUGUUAAAAUAUAACAAUAUAUGCGGUAAUAGUAAGCGUGACAUGAGCUUGAAACAUGUAGCAUAUAUAAAUUUGUUACAAAAGACAAUUUCAUUCAAAGGUGUAGUAGCAACUAGAACCUCAAAAACUACUAAAUCUAAAUCAGCAGUAUCUUAUAUGUACAGUAACUUGAAAGAUCGGUAUGAAGUUCAGUAUUGUAUCCAAUAUUACAAAGAGUGGGCUUGCAUGGCGAAUCAAACCUUAACCUCCAAGUUAUAGCUUCAAACACACUGUGCUUAGGUGAAAUUGUCACCGCGGUUUCAAACACACUAAAACUUAAUGGUCUAUCAAGCCUAUAGCAAUCCCUAAAUAACAUGAUACUUGUUCCAUCACUGUCUCUUUUACGGCUUUAUUAUCUGAAAUUUGAUCAGUACCAGCAAUCUACCUCUUCUACUUGCACUGCUGGCAAAUUCCACUUCUUUGGAGGCCCUGAGGCCUUUGGAGAUCCAACAAAAUUAUGCACAUCAAGUUUCUCAAGUUCUACAGAGAUCGUACGACCAUAAAAACUCUGCAGAUAAAGGAUAAAAAACAUUAAAAAGAUAGCAUUCAGUUGUCAAAGUUGAUAAUCAAAAGAUAGGGCAUGCCAUUAAAAUCUGAACCUGUUGAUCCAUUGUUUCAAGUGCAAGCAUGGCAUCGUCUUGACAUGUGUAUUGAAUAAAAGCAAGUCCCUUUGAUCUUUCUGUGCUUACAUCUUUAACCAUUUGGACUGGAGCACACACCAAAUAAAUGGCACAGGUGUGAGCCAAAGUACUAAAAUCAGUUAUGCACCAUAUUUUAAGUGCUGCUAUAUCGAAGUAUGAGAAAAUUCAUGCACUUACCUUCAGCUAUCUUGCCAAAAUUUGAAAAUUUCUUCUGCAAAGCAUUCUCGCCAGUAAAAUAGGGUAGAUCUGUCUCCAAAGAAGAGCAGGUAGGACUUCAUAAAAAAAUGGUAAAUAAAAGAAAGAAAUAUCCCUUCCAAAAAAAUAAAACAAAAUGCUCCAUAGUCCAUAGCAUCCAGAUAUCAGGAGAGAAUAUUAAAAGGAUAUGAAAGACUGAUCACAGAUCAAAAUGAAGAACUACAUAAUGUAAAGAAAAUUCUCCACACUCAACAAUCAGCCAGAUUUGUGAAAACAGAAACUAGUCAAUCCACAAGUGUUUUUUUAUCUACAUCAAGUUAAUAAGAUAAUCCACAAGAAAAGUUUUUUUUGUAGAUAUCUGGAUGAAGCUUAGUGCUUUGGAACAAAAGGCAUCAAGUGUGUUAGUGGAAGUCCAUAAUUUCGAAUUCAAAAGCAUGUAAUAUGACAGAUAAGUGAACGUCAAUUUUGUAAAAAAUCAAAAUGUAGUUGGCACAAUCAUCUUAGAGAAGAUGAAUGCAAUAUUGCCAAUUUUCCAUCCAAAUGAUUGUGCAGUUGGCACCUUCGGAUUUUCAUUUAUCAGUUACGGACAUUGUAAAAUGACUUUUUUUUUCAUUAUUAUACUGGAACUUAUUUCCAUUACCAUACAGGAAAGAGGAACAAGAACCCAUCUAAACAGAGAAAACAAGUUGUUAAAGAGUCUCACAUUGGAUGAGAUAUGACCUGACUAUGUGUUAAAAGUGGGAGCAGUCCUCACCUUACAAGCCGGCUUUGUAAGGUUGAGUUAGGCCCAAACCAAAUUCUAAGACAAGCAUAUAUAACAAGAACCAAAAAAAGCAUAAUAUUGGCUUAAAAAGGCUCUUAAAUCACUUUUCACUUCUAACAAGAAUACCCUUCUCCUCUACUGCCCAAGAAAAAAAUGACUUAACCUACAUAGAUGCAACAGAAACACAUCUAUCCUAAAGAUGUUGCAACAUGUUUUCAAAAGCGUGCUUUAGCAGAGCAGACAUGUCUUAAUACUACAUAGACCGCUACAGACAUGCACUAGCUGAGCAGUUUAGUUAACUCUAUGAUUUCAAAAUAGCUGCCAUCCCGUUAUCUGCUAUCUCACUAUAGCAUUUUUUGGGUUGACCGCUACACUGCUCUAUAUGGGAUUGAUAACACCGGUUAUAGAUAGAAAUUUCUGAAUGAAAAUUCAGUAGUUGCAUGCAAGCUGCAAUCCAAACCAGUAGAGAUAGCACAGUACACGCCUUCAUCACAAGAAAGAAUCUGACAGGAAGGAAGCUUCCCUUACAAGGGAAGAGCAAAUACUACUCAGAGAAUGCAAUUCAAAAUAUUAUAAAUGAUGGUCUGCCUGCGGCAGCGUAGCAUUCUUCUUAUGUAUAUCUAAUGUGUUAAGUAAAAGCAUUGAAGAGAGCAAAUGGUGAAAUGAGGAUUUUCGUGAUGCAAAUAAGCAAAUUAGAAAGAAAAAGGUAAAUCAGACCAAUAGAGCUUCAAAUUCCUAGUCCUAACUAAUAAACUAACGAAAAACCACGCAUCGAGGCUAGGCUGGUGAUACCCAUUCACAAAAGUGGUUAGUAUUAUUUUGUAUGUGAGAUUUGUCUCUGGGCUAGGAGCAAUUGUUCUUGAUAAGGAGUUCAUUGGAUUGAACUCUUGUUUUCUCUUAUUGUUUCUGUUUUUCACCAUUGUAGAGCUUGAAGCUCACCAUUUCCCAAUUCAAUAACAAUUGUUCUAUCACGCUAGUACGAUUCAACACUUGUAACAAUGAAAACAACAAUGGAUCAACUCCUAAUAUAAUGUAUUCCCUAUAGAUUACAUUCAACACUUGUAACAUUGAAAACAACAAUGGAUCAAAUAAAGAAAUUGAAAACAGCUUGAAGGGUAGAAAAUUAUGAGAAAAUAAGAGAGUGAGAGAGUUACUUACUUUUAACAAGGAUUUUGCUAGCAAGCGGAUAUUCGUGUCGCAUAGAUAAUGAUGAUCUGAGGAGGUUUAGACGAGAACGGUUUGGUGGUGUGUAGUAAGGGAAUGAAGCCAACCCCAAAAUCUUUGUCUCCAUCAAAACUAAAACCAAGCAACCUCGUAUUCGUCGUCGUCUCUGUGUCAGAAAAUAAUCCCAACUCCUUUUUGACUUUUCAAUUGUUGGAUUUAGACUGGUUGGUUGCUUCCGUUUUCGGUAGAAAAAAUAAAUUAUACUACCUCAUUUAUUUUUUAAUUGUUACAUUUUAACAUUUUACACAAACUAAGACAAUCAAUAAAUGUUACUAUUUUUGAUAUAAUAAUUUUUAUUUUUACUAUAAUAACCUUAUUUAUUUAAUAUCUCCACAAUAAUAAAUAAGGGUAAUAUUAGUAAAAUAACAUUUAAUGUUGCAUUGAUCUAUGUAAAGUGACACUUAAAUAAGAACAAAAAAAUUCUUUAAAAGAGACACUUAAAAAGGAACGGAGGGAGUAGUCUUCCAUAGAAAAUUGUGGGUUUAAAUACUUGGGAUUGUCUAUUGCGGAUGAUCCUAAGAAGCUCCAAACUUAGGUGAUUGUAUUGUGCUUUUAAAGUCUAUCUUGUCGGUUGUGCCAAUUUACUUCUUAUUUUCUUCAAGGAACCAUCAAGUAAUAUUUCUCUUAUUGAAUCUUCAUUUGAUUUUUUUUUAGGGGAGAGUGAGGAUGCAAGGAAAAUCCACUAGGUGAAAUGAGAUAGAGUGUUGAAACCAAAAGAUACGGGAGGUUUAGGUCUAAGAGAUCUGAAAUUUUUUAAUUUAGCUCUCUUAGAAAAAUUGUGAUGGAGGUUGAAAAUUGAACUAAACUGGAUGGACUCAGUGUUUUUCGGAUGGUUGAAUUUUUUUUUUUUUUUUCUUAACACAGUCUCGAUGGUUGGAUAAACUCUCAAAAAAAAUUUGGGUCGUAUUUGACUUCCGGUAUACAUUUUACCGAAAUCUCACAAUGGACGCCGAUGGUCAUGUAUGAUCAAGUCGGGUGUACCUCAUGAACAAGAUGUGUGGUAUUCAAGCCAAUGAUUUGAUCUAUCGCGACUCGUCGUAUGCUCUUUCUCGAAGCAGAUGGGGGGAUUUGUUCAACAAAAGGCCCCAUAAGACUGUGUAAAGUGAUCAUACCUUGGGUGAUACCCCUAUUUAUAAUGUUGUAUUCUAUUGAUACACUCCUUGUUAUUUUUAUAUUUUCUCCUUUAAUUUGUUCAACUUGUAACAAAAUUAAUAUGGUUUACUUUGAGCAACUGAUUUCAAAAUAGAUGUGAUGUCUAUCCUCUUUGAAUGAGAUACAUGUUAGUAGGAAAAACCCAACAAUUAUCUUAUAGUUUGUCGGCACUUAAGGUAGUAGAGCACGUUGGUCCUUAGUUUGUUCAUGAAGUGGGAUUAAGGUGAUCCCUGAGACGAUGUAGGAGACAUAGUUUUGUGUUGCACGUUAGUAAUCGAUUAACGUUUUUGGAUAAUUCACUCUAAUAUAAUGUUCACAAACAAAAAUUAUAAAGAUAUUAUUUGGGUGAAAGUUUGUGUGCAUGAAUGUAGAAUAUUUUGGUGAUAAGAAAUGCUAGAAAUCUUACAUUGAGUAGAUAAAAAUAUUCAAUGUGAUAUUUUUCAAUUUAAUAAACUGAUCUCUUGUGAUAGAAUCUCUUCGCGUAUUUAAAUUGUGACAGUUGAUGUUUUUGCUAAGAAUUGAGUCACAAAAAAUCAAAAAUAGCAACCUACAUAGUAUUUGCUACGUAGGCUUUUACACAGAUGGCUAUGACAGAUAAAAUUGUUAAAUGUGACAUUUAAAUCAUAAGUCUAUUAUUUUUCUUCAAAAAAAAGUCACAAGUCUCUUCAACCUAAUAUAUUAAUCUUUUAAGGUUAAACUCUUUAAAUGAGAUUAAACCCUAAUAUAAAAAAGAGAAUUGUUUUUUGUAAUAGAGAUAUUUUAUGAAAAAUUUGUAAUAAUAUGAUGAAAAAGAAAUUAAGACAGAACAAAGAAAUGUUGAUAAGAACAUGAGAAUUGAGAUGUGAGAUGAGAUGGCAACGGUUAUGAUGCCAAAUAAGCCAAAUAUUAAAGAACGUGUACGUGUCUGUUGUCCUCACUCUCCUUCCUUCCUUCCAACGGUAAACUUCACAGAACCUGCUCUUGCUAUCUCAAUCACCAGAUGGGCCCCACAUUUUCAUAGCUGGUCCAAUCUUAUUCAUCAAUACAAAGAAAAGAAAUCAAAAUCUUAAUCAGCAAGGAGGAAAUUAUUGGGGCACUUGCACAGUGGUUUAAGUCAAAGAUCAAAAUCAUAAAACACUCUUUCAACACCGAUAUAGUACACUAUUUUUAUUUAUUCUUUUAUUCAUUCACACAUAUCCUAAGACCAAAUUUUCUAUUUUAUUUUUACAACUUUCUCCAGCUUUAACUACCUUCAUGUCCCAAGUUACAUUCUUACCCUCCACUUUCAUUUACAUGAUUCAUUUUUAGUGAUCACACGUUAUUAGAGUCAACAUUCAAAUUACUACAUUUUAAUGCAAGUUAAUGUUAAUGACCCCUUUAAUAAUUGAAGAAAGUCAUGCUUUACUAUUCAAAUUGAAAUUUAUGAAAUGUUAACUAGUGUUUUCGAAACACUCUUUAAGAAUUUUGGCAAAAUUACACAAUUAGUCCCUUAACUUUAUUUUAGGUAACACUUUCGUCUUUUAUCUUUUUUUUGUCACGAUUUAGUCAUUUAUGUUAUAAAAUAACAACAUAGUUAUCUUUUUUAUGAAAAAAAUAAUCAAAAACUCCAAAAAAAAAAUCAUCAAACUCAUAGGCAAACGUAAAUCUUCAUCAUACAAGCAUAUAAAAUCAAAUUUCUUUGAAAAAAAAUUUCAUAAAAAAUGAUAAGAUAUUGUCAUUUUAUAACAUAAAGGACUAAAUCGUGACAAAAAAAGAUAAAGGACGAAAGUGUUGCCUAAAAUAAAGUUAAGGGACUAAUUGUGUAAUUUUGCCAAUAAUCUUUGAAGAUAAAUUUUUAUUAAAAUCUGUGUAAUCAAGACAUUGAAAUUUAUAAAUUUGACUUUUAUAAAAAAUACUUUUUAAAUUAAAAAUCCUUAAAGAGUGCGGAUAUUCGUUUUUUUGACAAAAACAAGGAUAUUCGUUAACAAGACCCUUGAAAUUUACGGUAUGUUAAGAUUUCUCAAAUUAAAAAUUAUACUAUGUGCAUGUUUGAAUUUCCAAUAUUUACGUUUAUGACGUAUGAUUUGAGUGAAAGUAUAUUUUAAAAUGAUAGACAAAUAUAUGAUAAAUGUGAGUAGUUGUUCUUUAAAAUAUGAACUAAAGAGUUCCUUUUUUUUUUUUUUUUUUGGUACAAAAACUAAAGAGUUCCUUAAUCCUUUUAUUAAUGUUUUUGGAGCUAAAACUAUGGAAACAGAUCUUUGCAUAACUUUUAUUUUAACAACAGGAAAACAAAUAUUUUAACAAAUAUAUAUACGGUCAUUAUUAUAAGUAAAAAUUAACAUUUUAGAUUCAUUUAUUAAAUAAUGUAUGUGAUUUAUAAUAAAGACCAUAUACAAUAUUAAUUAAAUGAAUCUAAAAUAUAAUUUUUUGCUUAUAAUAGCAACUGGAGGGUGUACUUUUUUAGAGAUUAAUUAAUAUAAAUUCGUGUAGAAUCUCUUGAUAGAAUCUCUCCCUCUCCAACAAGUCGGCCCUAGUUUUCUCUAUCUAGGUUUUCUCUUACAAUUUCUUCAUUGAGGGGUGGUUUUGGGUCAAUAUUUGACCUGAAAUCACCCCUCUUCAUCUUUUUCUCUUUAUUUCAAUCUAAAUAAGUGAUUUUCACAUAGAUCUAGGUUUUUUUUCUUUGUAAUUUCAUCAUCUAAGUGUGGUGAUUUGUUGUUCGUCAUCUUGUGCGGCGUUGUUUGAUUUCCCAUCUUCGUGCGGUGUUCAUUUAAUUCAUAUUGAAAGAUCGAUUGUUCAAUCAAAGAUUUGGACGUCAACAUUGCAGAUUCAUCCCUUACGUUUUUAGCGGUGUUUAAUGAUGUAAUCUCUCUAUUUGAAUGAAUGAAUAUCAUUUUGUUUUUGUCAAAAAAAUUAAUAUAAAUUCGUGUAAAAAAUUUAGUUGACCAUCCGAUAAAUAUUAAUUGAAAAGAUAUGAUGAGAUAACUUCCAAAAAUAAUAUAAAUAUAUAAUCAUAUAUUAUUAUUUUAUUUAUACUUGUGAUGGACAUCAAUUAAAUUUUUGUUUCCUUCAAAAAAAAUCAAUUAAAUUUUUGCUGCCCUAAUACUUAUAACCGAAUCUUUGACCGAUAAUCAUAUAUUUUUUUAUCCAACAUGAUAUUUCAAGAUAUUUCAACAAUUUGUAAAAGAAAAGGAAAGAUAUUUUAACAAAUUUAUGUAAUAAUAAUCACCAAUAUAUUUUGUCAAAAAAAUAAAUAAAUAAUCACCAAUAUAUAUAUAUUAUUGGGAAGAAGCUAUUUUAAGAAAAAUUUAUAUGAUGAAAUUUUGUCAAAGAAAAAAAUAGUUAGAUAACCAUAAAUUAUUAUAUUUUUUGUGUAAAAAUUUUAAAUUAUUAAUUUUUUACUUGUGAAUGCAUACCAAUUAAAUUUUAUCUUUUCUUUCCCUAAGUACACAUAAAACGAAUCUUUGACCAAUUUCCACAUACUCCAUAUGAAGAAGAUAGAUAUGUCAUUCAAGUAGUAAGCAAAGGGCAAAAUCGAAGUUUCCAUAGCAUGGUCAAAGAACGUUUUAAAAAUUGACUUGGAAGAAAGAAAGAAAGAAACUAAAACUAUAGCUGUGAUUUAGUAGCAAAAUUCACAUCACAAAUAACACGCAAAUCAAAUUAACAAUUAAAUUAAAUGGGUCCCACAUUUUCUUUCCUUUAAAUAGCAAUUCUUCAUCCUCCUCAUAACACUUAUUCAUUCAACGGUACGAAAAAAAAAAAAAACAUAAACACACGAACAAACAAAGACCAAUUCCAACGUUAAAUUAUUUGACUCAAACAAAACAAAAAACCUUAAUCAUCGUGAACAACAACAAUAACCUUAAACAUGUCUUGCUCCGUCGCGGUUUCGAAUUCGCCGGUGUUUUCACCUUCUUCAUCUCUCUUCUGCAACAAAUCUGAAACGUUAACGUUAUCUCUUUCUCAUCUCAAACCAUCUUCAACAACAACAACAACGUCUUCAUCGUCUUCUUCUUCGCCUUCUCCUUGUUCUUCACCUUCUUCACCUUUUUGUCUUCGGUUACCGAAACUACCCUUGGUUUUUACGUCUAACAAGGAUUCUGGGUCGCAGAAUGAUGCUGUUUUGAAGAGGAAACGACCUACCAGGCUUAAUAUACCUGUUUCUGAACAUGCUUUUUGUGUUCCGGCGACGCCUUCUGCGGUGGCGAGGGAUGUUGUUGAGGCGGAGGGAGAUGGGUAUUCUGUUUAUUGUAAGAGAGGGAGGAGGGAGUAUAUGGAAGAUCGUUAUACAGCUGGGGUUAAUCUUCGUGGUGAAAACAAUUUGGUAAGAAAUUUUUUAACCUUUUUAUUUAUUUUUAAUAGAAUAUAUAAUAUUUAUUUGGUUGGUUUUGAUGUUGAUAUGUUUUUGUCAAUUGGGUUUGUUGAAAGUUUCAAACUUGAUUUCUUAAUUGAUUUGGGUCUUAUUGGAUCUAAUUGUUUGCAGAAUUUCAAUAUUUUGUUCUUUUUUUGGUCUGAUUUGGUAGCUGCAUAUGGAAAAUUUGAGAUUAAUUUAUGUAGUUGAAAAAGUCAAUUUUAAGCUGCUAGGAUUUUUUUGAAUUGUUGCUUUUGAAGUUAAAAAGUUUGUCUUAGUAAUUAGCCAUUAGUUAAAUUUGAAUUUUGUAGAUAGUUGAAACAAAUUAGGAACAUAUGAUUAUGCAUUUAAUGUUUAAUUGAGAUUUGAUGUAUAUGCUUGCUUGUUCUUGUUGUUGUUGAUGACUUGGACUUAUAUUAGAUUUGAUUGUGUAAAAUCUAACUUGUACAAGUUUAUUUUGUGGUAAUUGCAGGCUUUUUUUGGCGUAUUUGAUGGACAUGGAGGUGCCAAAGCCGCUGAAUUUGCGGCAAACAACUUAGAAAAGAACAUCUUGGACGAAGUUAUCAUGAGCGACAAAGAUGAUGUUGAGGAGGCAGUGAAGCGCGGUUACCUCAAUACCGAUUCUGAGUUCAUGAAAAAAGAUCUACAUGGUGGUUCUUGUUGUGUGACAGCAUUCAUUAGGAAUGGUAACUUAGUUGUGUCUAAUGCUGGUGAUUGCCGUGCUGUUAUUAGUAGAGGAGGGGUUGCUGAGGCACUAACAUCUGAUCACCGUCCUUCAAGGGAAGACGAAAAGGACAGAAUUGAGACCCUGGUAAAUUUUCUUACCAUUGUAUUGGCUUCUCUUUUUAUUUAUGUUUUUUUGAAACCUUGUGUUUGAGUUUGGUUCUUAAUCUUAUGCAUUGAAAUUUGUCUUGCAGGGUGGUUAUGUUGAUUUAUGUCGCGGUGUUUGGAGGAUUCAAGGAUCUCUUGCUGUAUCAAGAGGAAUUGGAGACCGACACUUGAAACAAUGGGUGACAGCGGAGCCCGAGACUAAAGUUAUUAGAAUUGAACCUGAACAUGACUUGUUAAUAUUAGCUUCAGAUGGAUUAUGGGAUAAGGUAAUACUUCAAAAUUUCAUUGCGAUGUUAUUGUAUGUGUAUUCGGCGUUUGUCAAACAUGAUUUUGAUUGGAAUGUUUGUCUAAUGUCAAACUCGUGCUAAUCCAAACGCAUUCAAAUCAUGUUUGACAAAGAUAAAAUCAAUUAUGAUGAUUUUCGCACUUUUCUUUUGAUAUUGAAUGAUUAACUGAUCAAGUUUCUUUUUAUCAUUUCAGGUUAGUAAUCAGGAAGCAGUAGACAUUGCUCGUCAAUUUUGCGUAGGAAAUAACAACCAACAACCAUUGAUGGCCUGUAAAAAGCUUGCAAAGUUGUCUGUUUCAAGAGGCUCUUUGGAUGAUACCAGUGUCAUGAUAAUCAAAUUGAAACACUAUGUUUAGAGGUUCAUUGGUAGAACAGAAGAAGAUGGUGGUGCCUGAUGAUUAGAAAUUAGCCUAUUCUUUUCUGUAUAUAUAUUAAUUAUUAUUGAUUAAUUUUAUCUGACGACAUUUAUUGGUGAAUUUUUGUACCCGUAGAUGGGUGAGUAGAGAUUAACAAAGCCAUUUAGCCAUUUGUUUAGUAGAAUAUUUAUCUAAUAAUCAUGUAAUAACUUUAUAGAUUAUCUAAUUAUUUCGGUAAUAAUUCAUUCAUUCUUUUAUAUUGGAUAUAACAAAUUUGUGAUAGUUUAUAGUUUCACUUUUUUGAUGCAUGGAAUGAUUGCAUAGUUCCAUAGAAUUCAAUGAAUCACUUUUUCAAACGGUCAAGACCAAGUUAGUUAGCCUACUGUCUUUUGAAUUUAUCAGCUUAAUCAAACGGUCAGAUAUUUUGACCAAUAGGCUGGUGGAGGUUUUUGUUUACAAAUUUGAAAGCUUAAUCAAGCUUAAUUUAGAUCAAUAACCUAAUUUGUUUCUCAGAGCAUGGAUCAGUGUCACAUGUGGUUUAUGAUGUGCCUUAUUUACUCAUUAUUUGAGUAAAUCCUAUUAAAUUUUAGCAGGCUCUGCUUGCAAGUUUUGAGUCGAAAGUAAAGGAAGAUUCCUAUUAAAGUAUAUGAUUUUUGCUUAAGACCAAAUUUAAUAGCAAAUAGUACGAAAUUUGUCAAAUAUCGACUUCGUAUAUGUCUGGUUUAGCUUUUUCAAAGAUGAAAUCACUUUCAAAUGCACAUUUGGACGUUAAGCUCCAUUUCGUAGCUUCCAUUGUGAUGUGUGUUAGAAAUUAGUUUCUAACGCAGAAUUAUACAAAAAGUUAUGUGGUAAUCUUUUUGUUUCAAAUAGUGGUUAAAGGAUUUUUUUUUCUUUCUUUCUAUGAUGGUACAAGUUUGACAAUAAUUCAUUUUACAAGCAAAGGUUUCAAUGGUUUUGUAAAAUGAAAGUAGUAUGAAACAAUGUAAAAGAAACUAACUGAAGUACAAAAUUACAUGAAAACAUGUAAAGAGUUUCAUGAAAAGUAAUAGUGUUAGCCUCAUGCACCCCAAUGCUAUCAAUGACUUUCAGUUGCAACCUAGUUCGAUAUUAUGAAGUAUUUGUCCGAAUUACAAUGAACUAGUGUGAUUUUAUAAAAGUUAUCACGGUGUUUCAAUGUGAUUUUGACAAAUUCACAGUGAAAACUAAACAAGACCUCAAUCAUUAAGUUACGAUUAGGUACUUUGAUGGACGAACAACAUCUUACCACCCUAUGCUAUAAACAUAGAUUUAAAGUCCGUUCAUUCUUACAUUCUUAUGGAGUACAUUAAUGGCAAGGUUCAUCAUUUCCUUUGUAUGAACUAAAUUGGCGAUUGUUGGUUUAUCAUUGCUACUAUUCGUGUUAUUAGACUCUCUUCUAAUUUUUAAGAGAUAUUACUCACAUCCCAAAAAACUUAAUUUUGUUUAAAUAUAUGAAAAUAGAAAAAAGGUGAAAAUGAUAAUGACCCUUUAUUUUAUUUUAUUUUUUUGAAGGAAAAAAAUUCAUUGCUUUUCAUUAGCUAUCAAGUCUCGGAUACAUGACGGUACAUCAUCAUAAACGUUGGAGCUAGCAUGAGAUGAGGCUACCGUAGCUAAUUCAUGAGCGACCCUAUUGGCUUGCCUCCUAUUGAACUCGACAUAAGAGUUUUGAAAAUUAUAAUCGAACAACUGCCUACAUAUAUCCUUGAGACUUCAAAGAUCAAAAGUCGUCACUUUUUUUCUCUCUCUUUAUUCUUUUGUAACUAAGCACUUUUUUUAGAAGAUGAACUAAACACUUUUACACGUGAAAACUAUUCUCUAAAGUAAUUUUUCACAAUAAUUUGUGUUAAUCCUCACAAAUUUAUACUUAUAACUUUGGAACUAGUUUGCCAAUUUCUUAUCAAGAGGUCCAUAUAUUUUCCUCUUCUUAUACGUUGACAUUUUCAUAAGGAUCACGAGCCUUAAAUCAAUAGUAUAAAAAAAACUUCAAAUUAUUUUUUAUAUAUAUGUAAUACUAAUGUGAACAUUGAACUAAUUUAUAAAUUGGACCGUUGGUGGAAAUUGACCAAGUUUCCUAGCCAUUAGGACUUAGGAGCACUGACUCCGUCCCCUGCCGACCACCAUUUGUGACAUGCACAGAAUAAUGAACUUAUCAUUAUGAACCUUAGGAAUUAAUGAAGAUUUUCAAUUUAAUUUAGACCAAAAUUAAGGUGGGGAAUAAAAUAGCUAAGUGUACAAAUUAAGGUGGGGAUACUAUACUAAUUAAGUGGCGGUGUGAGAUUAAGACAUUAUUUUUGUCUUGACUAAGAGAUUGACUUUAGGAUCAUAAGGUUGGUUAGAGAUAUUAUUGAGAUACCUUUAGGACACGUUCUCAUCAUUCAUGGUCCUUCGAGGAAGGCACAAUGUUUUGUUAACUUAUGUACACUCCAAAAUCCAAAUGAAGUUUUGGUGGAUAAUAUAUGCCAUACAAUUCCCACAAGAUAUUCGAUUCAAGAAGAGAAAGUACAUGUACAUGCAACCAAACUCAAUUAUCAUCAAAUCACCAACCAACGUUUGUAAUAUGCAUUGCAUGUAGCACGUACCAUACGGCAUAAUAAUAUGUAUGUACACCAUUGUAUGAAUUUGACUCAGAGAAAAAUCAGUCUCCUUUAAUGAUAUAUACUAUACUAGCUAGUAUAUAUUAUUUUGGCAUGCCAUGUAUUUUUUGGUAUGUCAAUGAAUCAAUGAUAUAUUAUAUGUACGUCAUGGAACAUGCAUGUUUGGAUUGUUCUCUAUAUAGUUUCUUUUAAUAUUAAACAAUCUUUAUGUUUUUUUUUUUUUUUUUUUUUUUAUAUAUUUGUUGUUGGUAGUCAAAUUAUUUAUUGUGUGUGUAUAUAUGAGUUUUUUUUUUUGUUUUUUGGGAAGAACCACGUUUGCCGCUGUAUGAUGGUCAAACCGUCUUGAUACUUUUUCUCUUUAAAGACUCGAUUUAAUAUUUUUUUUCCUUCAUAAUUUUCUCACAAUCUAGUUUAUAUCUCUGGCAAGAAAGAAAAUAGUAUUUUGAUUAGUUUUUGACAUUUUCAUAAGGCUGUUGUAAUGAGGUAAACUUAAGAGAGAAACUAAUAUAAUCCCUCAUAAACAUGUUAUAACUAAUUUAAAUCUAAUUUUUUUGAUUAAAUUGGUCUGCGAGUCAGAAUUAAUUUUAAGGAGACAAAAAUGUUCAUUCUCAUACAAACUAAUGAAAAUACAUCCACGUGACUUAAGUCAUGUUCGCCUUAUAUCAACGUGAGUUACGUCAUGUCUAAAGCAAGGUUGAUAUAAGACGAAAUUACUUAAGUCACGUUGAAGACAUUUUUGUCAGUUCAUGUGGAAGUGAGCAAUUUUGUAUGGGAGAAGAGCAACAUUCUUUUCUUCUAGCCAAACAAGGAGGCCCGUUUACACUACAAGGCCUCAGCUUAGGCCCCAAACAAUUUUGAUAAUUAUUUACUUUUUAAAAAUAAGUCUUUGCAUUAAAAUGAUUAUAAUUGAUGUUGUAGUAAUAUACUUUUUGAUUAGAUCCUUCUUGUUAUAACGUUGGUAGUCAACUAAUAGCUUAUUCACAAAAAAUAUAUAAUAGUUCAUGUCUAAUUGUAACCAAAUGAUCAUAUUGGCUUAAUUUAACACUCACAACAACAAUAAGUAUACGAGUUACUUUGAACUUGUCCAAUGACUUGAAAGAUAAUUUAAAAAGAUCCUUUCAGACACUUGUAAGAUGGUAUGAGAAGUGGUGGAGGCUAUGAGGAGAGAAGCUUCCUCUGUGAGUCCAUCAAAGGGUGUGUUGAAUCUAUACAUGUUUUGACGCUCAAGUUGGUGAGUGAACAAGAGAGUGAGGUAGAUAUUAAUGAUGAAAAGUGAGGCAGAUAUCUACCGCUAGGCUUUCACCUAACCAUGUGUCCCCAAAAGAUCCUUAUAAUGAUCUGGAGGUAGUCACAACAUUGGAUUCAUACUGGUUGGUCCAUAUUGACAGUCUGGACCACGAACCAAUGAGAUUUAUGGGGUGUCCAUGAUAGGAUCCGCCAAGCAGCAGUAUCCAGUCGGACAUGGGUCCUAACUCGGAUUUAGUAUUGGUCCUGUCUGUAACAAAAAAAGAAACUUGAAAAUGAGUAAUUUGACAUAAAUAAAAGCAAGGGUUAAUUAAGUAAAUGAUCUCUAUAAAUAUACACAAUUUUGUUUUUAAUCCCUACAAAAUAAAAUUGCAUUUUUUAGUCUUUUGUAAAAUUUUAUAUUGACAUAAAGAAGAUACAUAUGUUUCUCAUACUAAUUAAACAAAACACAUUUCAUUCAACGAUAAAGAAAACAUUUGUGAUUGAUUUUACAUCCACAUAUAUGACUUACAAUUGUUUGUUACAACUUUUUCUAUGAAAAAGAAAAUAGUAUUUUUAAACAAAAUAAACACAUUUAAAAAAUUACUCAGUUUGAUACAACUUCAAAAAAAUAAUAAUGAAUUUGAGAAGGGUACAUUUAUAUUUUAGAAUUUUUUUAUUUAAAAAAAAAUUUCUAAAGAUUUUAUUGUUCUAAAUGGCCAAAGUCCUAAAUAUAUUGAUUCUCUAAUUCUUAACACGUUUGACAUUGAUCCAAGACUCCAAGUUAGAACAUGAUUUUUAGAAAAACGAUAAAAAUACAUCAAAGUGAUAAACACCACAAAAACUCACACAUAUUACAAUGUCUCGAGUUCAAAUUCAAAUAAAGAUGUCCAACAUAAUAAUUUCGACAUAUUCAAUUGAGAUGGGCUUUAGGGACCUUUUCCUUAUAAUUGUAAUUGGCAUGAGAAGGAGUGCAAGGUACAAGGCUAAAAACACAUAACCAUCAUUGCAAAAUUUGAAAAAAUUUCUUUGAGCAAUUUGAAUUUUCUAAGCAAGAACUCUAAACAAACAGACAGAUAAGAGGGGAUGGGGGGAAGCAUUGCAUGCUAAGCGUAAAAAAAGAUGGAAUGUUUUGUGUGCACUAACAAGCACUACAUGCCCACCUCAUAAACCAUUAAUGACCCUUCUUUUGUCUCAUUCUUCAUAGACAAAUCUCCCCAACAUUGCAAUUUGCAACAAACACAUUUCCCACAUCUCUUUUACUACCUCAUCAUACACCUCUCAAACAUAGUACUAAUAUUGUUUUUUUGUGUCUUCUUUUAUGUUGUCAAUGUUAGCAAGAACUUUGGGGGCUUCUAACCCUAUCAUAUAGAUAAGCAAUGGAAUACACGUCUUUUGCUUCAUUCAUUAUUGAAUAUUAUAAAGCUUUAUAUGUUUCUUUUUAAAACGAAAGGUAAAGAAAUUAUGAAAGGUUCAUGCUUCAUGUUUUUAAAAUUUAAAUUUAAAGUCAUAGUUGGAUGCACGAAGAAAAGAGCUGAGCUACGUUAACAAAACGUUCUUCUUUUUGCAUUAUUGGCUCGUGCCCAUAUUCGAUCUCGUGGUUACUUGUCCAAUGCAUAUGGGGUUGCUUUUUGCACCCUCUUUUCUUGUUAUACUAACAACCAUGUAUCAUUUUGUUUUCUUUUCAAAAAUUUCCAUGUCUAAAAGUUUACUUUUUGAGUGCAUAUUCUUUUCAAACCUAUAUUGUCAUGCGAGCAUUUUUACAUUAUGAAAGUUUGUCUCUAGUGAUAUGUUUAGAAAAUGGGUCUUCAAGGUUAACAUUAUUAUUAGAAAGGUAUUUUGGUUGUGAUUAACGUACUAGAUGUUGAUCCGUACGUGGAACAUAUUAUUAGAUGAUAAUCAAGAAAUAAAUUUUUAUGAGUAAAAAAAAGAGAACAAGAUUUUUAGAAUUAUAAUGGUCUAGAUAUUUGGUUUUACAAACAAGUAGUAAACAAUUUCUUGAGUUUUAUUUUCUAAAGGAACUUGAAUUUGAAAAGAGUAAUGACAUUUAAACACAAAUAGUUGACACUGAAAAAAUACAGUUACUUUAAACUUUGAUUCAAUUGAAAGACAAAUAAAAGAAACUAAUGAAAAUAAAUAAAUCAAAAUCAUAUAAUGUACGGUCUGAUGCCACUUUUUGUGUUGAUAUAACAUUUUUGUUUGAAGAAAUAAUUUGUCAUAGCAAAUAGAAUCAAGGCUUAAAUAUGCAAACUGCCCCUGUAAUUUGGGCUCAUUUUGAUUUUUGUCCCUGUAAAAAAAAAUAAUUUAAUUACAUCCCUGUAAAAAAAAUUUUGUUUUAAAAAUGUCCCUGGCCCCACUUCGCUGGUGAUGUGGCAUGGGUUUUGCCACGUGGCAGUCCACAUAAUUAAAAAAUUAAAAUUAUUUUUAAAGUUUUAAAAAUUAUUUUUUUAAAUUAAAAAAAUAUGAAAAUAAAUUCAAAAAUCAUUAAAAAAAAUUGAAAAAAAACUGUUAAAAUUAAAUCUUCGACUUUAAUUUUUUUGAAUUUGAAAAUUAUAUUUUUUUCUUCAUAUUUUAAAAAAAAUUAAAAAAAUAAUUUCAUUUUUUUCAGAAAUUUCAGAUUUUAUAAUUUAAAAAAAAUAUUUUUUUUUUUUAAAAUUAUAUGAUAAAAAUAAUUUCAGAAAAUAAUUUAAUUUUUUAAAAUGUUUUUUUUAUAUUUUUAAAUUUUAAAAAAUAAUUUUAAUAUUUUAAUUAUGUGGACUGCCACGUGGCAUAAGUUGCCUAGUCAGCAACUGCCACGUGGCCCAAAACGUUGCCACAUCACCAGCGAAGUGGGGCCAGGGACAUUUUUAAAACAAAUUUUUUUUUACAGGGAUGUAAUUAAUUUUUUUUUUUUUUUACAGGGAUGAAAAUCAAAAUGAACCCAAAUUACAGGGACGGUUUGCAUAUUUAAGCCUAGAAUCAAUAUUUACAUUUCCAUUCGAAAAAGAAAAAAAAAAAAAAAAAAAAAACAUAUCUUUUACACACUAAACUUAGCUAGGCAGAAUCACCAUGAUUGCCAGAAUAUAUAUAUAUUUGUAUGGGAUUUUGGAGAAAAGAAUCCUAACUUAGUCAUUGGGCAAAUAAAUAGUGAUUUUCACGAAUUUUGACAUUUAUUUCGUUAACAUGUCAUGCCUUGGACCUCUAAAAAAAGGUCAUACCUUGGUUGAUGUUAUAUUAUUUUUUUUUGAAUAAAAGUUUGAUGUUAUAUUUGGUUGCACUACAAAGAUAAGAAAAAUAUUUACUAGUCAUGUUUCUAUCAUCAAGACCUAAAUUAAUCGACUUCUAAAGUAAGGAAAAAUCAAAAUGAAAGUUGCGUCUACGCUUUAUUUUGAGUUAGAAUCCUCUACAUUUAUAAAGAACAAUCCUCAUUUCGAUACCCAAUUCAAUUGUUGCAAUGACUCAUUUAAAAUUAUUGAAGAUUAAGUUUGUUAAUAUGAUAACUCAACUAAAUAUUUCUUACAAAAUGCUUUAUACAAGGAAAUAAUAUAGCAUCACGAAAUGGCAACGAACUAAUAUCAUUGGUUUCACGGCCGUGUUUUCCGCAAAGGAAAUUGCUAGUUAUAGCGAAAGAGAAACUCCAGAACAAGUGUCUAUUUAAUAAACAUAUCUCUUAAAUUAUAUCCAUGACAUCAUUGUUUUCCGCCCUAAAUGCUAUUGGCUUAAUGGUGUAUCAUGAACUGCUCGGACAAAAUAUCUCACGUUAAAUAGCAUCAGCGGCGAAGCUAGCAACUUUUUUACGAGGGGGUCAAAUGUUAAAAGUUUAUUUUUAUUUGUAAGAAACUAAGUAAUUUACAAGAAAUUUAUUCUCUAUUUUAUGUUUGAAUCUUAUAUUGACAAUUUUCAUUGCUAAUGUUGAGAAUUGACUCAAAAUUGAGGAUUCAGCCAAAAUCGUGGCCCGAUUUUGGACCAGUUUUUGGACUUAUGAUUCUGGAAAAAUCUACCCAAUUCAAUUGUUGCAAUGACUCAUUUAAAAUUAUUGAAGAUUAAGUUUGUUAUAUGAUAACUCAACUAAAUAUUUCUUACAAAAUGCUUUAUACAGGAAAUACAUAUAGCAUCACGAAACGGCAGCGAACUAAUAUCAUUGAUUUCAUGGCUGUGUUUUUCGCAAAGGAAAUUGCUAGUUAUAGCGAAAGAGAAACUCAGCAACGAGUGUGUAUUUAGUAAAUGUAUCUCCUAAAUUAUACACAUAAUUGUUUUCCCCUCAAAAAGAAAUGCUAUUGGCUUAAUGGUGUAUUGCGAACUGCUCGGGACAAAAUAUCUCGCGUUAAAUAGCAAUGCUCUUCCGCAAAACACCAACAAAUAUGUUUUUAAACAAUUCUAAAAUUUUGACAUGUUUCCUUCGUGAAUUUUCGUGAUCCUUUUCUCCCAAUUUUUUUUUUUGGUAAAGAUAAUGUCUCCCAUAUUUUCAAUGCAAAACACGGCAAUUCUAGCUCUAAUUCAUUUGCAGGGUAAAGUCUUUCAUGGUUUUUUUUUUUUUUUUUUUUGCUUCCUAGAGGCAGAAUACUAGCAAAUGACUUUGUAUGGUGUGAUUAUCCAUCGUAUGCAUCUCUUCAUGAUAUGAUGUGGGUGGAGUUUUCUCACAAUGAUGUUAGGGUGGAUUUUGAUCGGGGAAAUAUUAUUUAUAGAAAAAAGAACAAGUAUAAGAUACUAUCUGACUAUGCCAAAGCACCUACUAUUUCUAGUUUAAAAGACCACAAUAUACCACAAUAUAUUCACUAGAAUUAGACAAAGCAAGUCAUACACGGGCACAACCUUAAAUCAUAAACGUUUGGACACACAUAUGGAAACUGUUAAAAGAAAAAUAAUUUAAUCACAUCAUUUAACGCAAAAGGCAUCUCAAAGGGUAUAUAAAAGUUUACAAAACAAGUAUCGCUAGAUAGCUAGCCAAAAGGGAGAAAAACAAAACAUUACGAAUUAGAAAACCCAAGAUUGGCUAACGAGUUGGAUCACCAUGCGUGAUAGUCGCAAACAUUAUGAGAGUUAUACGAUUUCAGACACCGCCAAAAAUGAAGUUUAAUACACUCAAGUAACUAAUCCAACAUAAUAUGAUGUAAUCUCACUGUUACCAUGAAUUCGCCUACAUGUUCCCUAAACAAACUUGUCUCACCUCCCUCACCCCCUUUUCAAUAUCAAAUAAAUCCUUCCACCACACUGAUGUCUGCCUCCCUCCUCUACGAAUACUAUCAUUUAAACACCAUAUUUAGCCGGUAUAAUUUUAAAUAAAAUUAAUAUAUUUUGGUUCAAAUAGCUCUCAAACGUUUUAGAAUACCAAAUCAAAUUGAUAGUAAAAUCAAUAAAUUUAAUUGUGUUAAAAUAUAUUCUAUUAAUUUGAAUUUUGAAAAUGAUUCAUUGUGAAGUUUUUUCUUCAAAAAACGCUAACAGAGAAACCUACACGUACUAAAUACUGAGAAGUGACGAAUUAUAAAUUCGAACGACGUUCAUGCAUAUCUAAGGUAUCCACAACGUUUUUAGGCUAAAUUACAUCGGAGAUUCUUUAAGUUAUUUAAUUGUAACAAAUUUGUCUUUUAAGUUUUUUCGUAUUACUUACGUCUUUUAAGUUAUUUAAUUGUAACAAGUUAAUCGUUUUAGUAUUUUUUUUUUGUAACACUUAAGUCCUUUUAAGUUAUUUAAUUGUAAUUUGUUGGAAAUUUAGGUUUUAAUAAAAAAACAGAUUUCAUAAAACAUGUUCAACAAUUAUGAAUCAAUAGCGGAAGCAAACAAAACAUUGAACACGAUUAUGAUCGGAUCUAGACAUGUCUGAUUUAUCAAGGAUAUUAAGAAUAAGGGUAUUAAGAAUACCUGGAUGAAGCUUUCGUGACAACUCUCUCGCCAUCAACGAUCUAAAACAAGGAGAGGAGAUGAUCUAAUCUGAAACACACAACAUAGCUUAGCGGCGACUGAUUUGGUUCUUCCUCAACCGGUACCUUUAUACCUCGAGUUCUCUUCAGAUGGGGAGAAGAGAAUGUUUGCCGUGUACGGUGUAUUGGGACCAUAGUCUCUUUUAUAUUGGAUGACUAUUAGAUUUUCCAUUAUUCCGUUAAUGAGUCAUCCAGACAUCCACUCAUUGAAUCCAUAUCUAUUAAUGAAAUAUUUAAUUAAUUAUCUAAUUAGAAAUCCAAUAGCCUUAUUACUUAAUUUAAUCACUAAUCAAUUAAGGCUCACAACUGAUAAAUAGCUAAUAUAAUUAUUAUUACAAUAUUUGUCCACAUAAUGAUAUCGGAAUAUAAUAAAAUAAUAAAAUAUUCCAACAUAACUUUUAAGCCCCAAAUAACUUACAUUUUUAAGAUUUGAAAUCCUCCAAAUUAUUACUAUUAAAUAACUUAAAAGGUUAGAAAAAAAUACUUAAAGACCAACUUAUAAUAAUGAGUUAACUUAAAGACUUGAGUGGUACAUUCAUAUUAAUAACUUAAAAAUGAUCGUCGGAGUUAAUAAAGAAUUUAAAUGAUCAAUUUAUUACAAUUAAUAACUUUAAAAUUAUCGCCGGUGUAAUUUAUCCACGUUUUUACUAUACAAAUUGUACUUACGACAUAUGAUUUUUAUUUUAUUUUAUUUAUUUAGUAAAUUGUUUUAUACUUUUGAAGGUCUAAAACGAUUACUUUGUUGACUUUAUUCUUGUACCGACUUGCUUGUUUUAAGAGUCAAAGGCAAUGUUAUCCAAGAACUCCUUACAUCUUUUUUAUUCCACCACUAACCUAAAAAAACUAACGAUUUAGGCACUUCAAAUUGUACCACCUCUCCAUUAUUUUUUUACUUUAAAAACUCCAUGCCAAUACAUAUCCAAUACCCUCUUUAUUCUUUUUUGAGGGAGGGUGAGGGGUGGGAAUGUGUAAAGGAAUAUACACCUUCUUUAGGUGAUGGUCAAUUUCAUUUAGAAAAGAUGUGGACACAAUAAACUCCGUCACAUAAAUAUAUAGUUCUACAUAACUUUGUGGCAAUAUGCAAUGCAAGUCAAGUCAUGAAGCACGUUGCUUAACCUUCAAAACUUGAAUCUUAUCCAAAACCAAGUAGGUCACCGAGUAAGCAUAAGCACCACAAUUUUAUUUGUUUAUUCUAUUCUUAUACUCCUUCGUGCCUUAGUGUGAAAGGUUGCAAAUUGAAGUUACUAAGAAAACCAUUCCUACGCGUCACACUUUAAUCAUAACCUUGCCACAUAUACUUAGAGACCAUUUUCUACUACCGUGUGGGACAUUCAUAUUUAAGCCAAAUGGCAUCAUUCUAGAAAUUACUAGAAAUUAAUCCAAAUUUAAAUUUAAAUUCAAAUGUCUUUUUUAAAUAAUAUUGACAACUAAAGAAGUAAUUUAAACCAUGUUGAAAUUUUAUCAUGGUUUUCCUUUUAAAAGUCUUGUUUUUCCUCAUUUGUGUAGCUAGUUUUAUGCCAAAAGUCAUGUUUAUGUGGACACAUAUUUCAAUUUUCUAUUUCCCUCAUGCGUAACGCUUUGUCUAUUUUUUUUUUCUUUUAAAAAAUCUUAUAUAGUCAAAUUCAGUUCUAAUGACCUUCCAAUUCAUUUAGACUUUGACAAAUGGCAUGUCAAUAAGAGUUCUAUCUCACUAAAACUUUGUUUGCACAUACAAAAAACCUAAAAUAAAAUGAAUAUAAAUAUAAAAUACAAAAUACACCAAUCAUGCAUUGAAUAGUUUUUUUUUUUUUUUAUUUCUCAACAAAAAUAUUAUAAUCAUACACCAUUUUUUAAAUUUCAUCUUAAUUUAUAUUUUAUAUUUAUAUUAAUAUAAUUUACCAAAGAAGUGAAAUAUAGGAAAACAAAUGUGGGAUAAGUUGGACUUAGGAAUAGGCAUUUUCAUUUUAAAUAAUCUUGUAUGUUACCUAAAAUCAUAAUUUUGCCGUUUAGGGUGAAGUAGUGCAUUUAUAUGAACAUGAGAAUAGGUAUUUUUCAUAUAAAAAUUUAGGCUGAAUUAGGCAAAAGCAAUUUAAGGAAAAACCUUAUCUUUUAAUUUGUAUCCAAACAAAAGAAUACUCUAGUACGGUAUAAUGUAAGGUGUCAAGAACUUAAUAAGGAAAUGAAGAAAUGAAGUACCACAUGUCAAAUUGUUCCAAUAAUUUUGUCACAACACAAGUCAGAGAGAAUUUCCCACAUCUUCUAAAAGAUACGACUAGAUUUUGGGGACCUUACCAAAAUCCAAAAUUUCACAUACAACCAAUUAAAAAUAAGAAUAAAAAAAUACAUUAAAAUAUAACAUAACAUAAAAAUAUUUGGUGGAAGUGUUAUGGUGCACGUCAUAUAGUUGUAGUUUAACUAAAUUUUGUGUGGCUAAAGCCAUAUACAAGCAUCAUUGAAAUCUUUCUAACAUAUUUGCAUUACCUUUACCAGAAUCUAGCACUGUCUUCAUAAAUUCGUGGACCAACAAUUUUUUGCCACGUUAGUGUUAUUACCUACUUAUAUGUUAAUUUUACUCUGUUUCCUACUACAGCCACGGUGUUAUGUUCCCUUUUGCCAACUUGUAACAUUCACCUCUCAACUAUAAUGCAUGCCCAUAUUCCACACUCCAACCACAUGUUCAAAUUAUUAUUCCUACGCAACAGUACCAACUGUAUAUUAUAAAUAAAUUAAAUGUACCUUGCUGGGUAAUUUAAUAAUAAAUACCGAACACCCCUUCAACAGAAAACCUAUCGUGAACCGUUUUUUUAUAUGUAAGAAAUAUUAUUAUAGAAAUGCUACCAUGGUAUUGUUUUCAGAGAAAUAUAGCUUUAACAAAAUUUGAGUUUGGUCCAAAAGUUAGGUGAUGUUAAUUAAGAGUUUUACAUGAGAUGAAAGAUAGUUUGAACUUUGAAUAUAUCUUUUAUAAGUAGAGGUAUUAGUAAUUUAGAAAUCAAAUUUAUAAUAUUGAGUUACAUUUAACUUAAAUUUUAAGAUGGUAUGAAAAUCUAUUACUAUUAGAUUUCUUUAAUUAGAUCACUUGAAUUAUAGUUCGUAUGUAUAAUCCUAACUAUGAAGAGUGUACGUUAAGAAUAAGACACUAACGUGAGAAUAUAAGUUAGACCUAAUCUAAAUUUUAAGAAGUGAAAUAUAAUUAAUUGCAAACUUCUAAUUAACUUAAAUUUUGAAAAAUGGUAUGAAAACUUAUUCAAGAUUCAUUGGAUCAUCUACUGCUAAAUUUCUCUUAUCAAAUUGAAUUACUUGAGUCCAUAAUUCAGAUAUUUAAUCCUAAAUAUGAAGGGUGUGCGUUAAGAGUCAUACAUUAAUGUAAUAUGAUAAAAACAUAUUAGUGAAGACAAUCAACCCCUUAUAAAUUAAGCUCAAAGUAAAUUAUAAAUUCUAAGUGAAAUAUAAUUAACUACAAACCUCCCAUUUUUGCUCAACCUUACUUACACACAUUUUAAUCCCUUAGUCUCCACACUAGUACCACUAAAAUUCACCUAAAUCACAUAGAAAAGGCUUUAAAAACAUUUCCUUAAAUCAAAAUUAAAAACCAUAGUACUUAUCCAAGUAUUGUCUACUAGUGACAUGAAAAUGAAAAAUAAAAAUUGGGAUCUUAAUCUUGGAUAAGGAUUAAAAGUCCAAUCCCUUAAGAAAGAAACAGUAUCACCAAGUUCUCUGUUCCAAGAAUUCUCCAUUUAAUGUCAAAAAACAUUACCGUCCUCUAAUAUCUCUCCCUCAACGUCACACCACCGCUUUUCUUAAUUAUCCACUUCCAUAAUUUCCACGCUGUAACAAAAAUACAUAUUUUAAAAAAUAAAAUAAUUUUCCAAAAACACGUAACACCGAAUGUUAGAAGAACAAACACGCACUACAUGUGUCUAUAUAUAUAAACCUCAUUCCCCUCAAACAAAACCAAACAACACAACGUCAAAAAAAAAAAAAAAAAACACAUUACAUUACAUUACAAUUUUCAUAGUUCAUAGCAAUGAGUUCAUGGGUGAGAGGCAAGUGUAUUGGUAAAGGAGCGUUUGGCGUUGUGAAUUUAGCUUAUUCAAAAAGCGAUUCUAAAGUUUUCGCGGUGAAAUCAGUUGAUACUAAAACUGCUCUUCCAAGUCAGUUAGAAGCGUUGGAGAAUGAGAUUAAGAUUUUGAAACGGUUAUCUUCUUCUUCUUGUUCUUCUUCGCCUCACGUGAUUGGUUUUCUCGGCGAAGAUGUCACGUGCGAAGGAAAUAAAACGUCGUCGUUUAAGAAUCUACACUUGGAGUACAUGCCAGGUGGCACCGUCGCUGAAAUCAACCGUGCUGACGUGGAUGAAAAGUUAGUUAGAAACUUCGCCUGGUGUUUAGUUAACGCGUUACGUGAUGUUCACGCGCGUGGCGUUGUUCAUUGUGAUGUUAAAGGAAGAAACGUUCUCAUCGGUGGUUCCGUCGCUAAGCUAGCUGAUUUUGGUUCAGCUAUGGAAUUUUCCGGUGGUGAAUGUGAAGUACCACGUGGAAGUCCGAUGUGGAUGGCGCCGGAGGUUGUUCGCCGGGAGUAUCAAGGACCGGAGUCUGAUGUCUGGUCAUUAGGAUGUACUGUAAUUGAGAUUUUCACCGGAAAAUCACCGUGGGAGGAUCGGGGAUUCGAGACGUUGAGUCGAAUUGGAUUUUCCGAUGAGUUACCGGAGUUUCCAAGCGGUUUGUCGGAGCUCGGGAGAGAUUUUCUGGAGAAAUGUUUGAGGCGUGAUCGGAAUCGGAGAUGGAGGUGUGAUCAGCUACUUCAGCAUCCAUUUUUGUUACCGUGUGAUCGCGUAGUUGAAACUUCGCCACGUUGCGUUUUGGAUUGUGAAGAAAACGAGUUUGAAUUUGAAGAAGAAAAUGAAGUGAAGUUGAAUAGUGAUGAAAAUGAAAAUUCAGGUAAAAAUAGAAUUGGUAAAUUAGCAACGGGAAUGAGGGUAAAUUGGGAAACGGAAGAUUGGAUUGAAGUGAGGGCAAUUUCGUCUGAACAAAAAGAAGAAGCAACAAUGGAAAAUGAAGAGUAUGAGUGUGACUGUGAGGGGGAAGAAGCUGAAUCAGGGGUAAUAUGGGAAAUUGAGAAUAUAAUGAGGGUAGAAGAGGAAAUGGAAGUUGGGAGUAAUUCGGAAUAUGGGGAUUCUGAUGAAAGGGUAAAAUGGGAAAUGUGGAAAUACAACCGCAACCGUAGGAACAACGUUAUAGGUGGAAGUGGAAGUUGGUCUGGUUGGAGAUGUCGGUAUAGAUACGGUUGGGGAAAUUUUAAUAGGAAUAUUAGUGGAAUAUUCAGCAUUUGCACUUGUUGUAAUAAUUGUAAAUUAUUCAAAUCAUGUAAAUUGUUCUCAAUAUAUAAUAAUUGUUAUUAUUCCUUGUGGUUGAAAAUAUUCUUUAAUUGGUGUUUCAAAUUGAGAUUCAUGUUAAACAUGGUUAAGAGUGUUUUUAUUUUAAAGUUUAGUGGAAAUAAUUUAAUCAGAACUAUUUUAUUUAGUCAAAUAUUAGAAGAGUUCGUUCAAUAUAAAUAAUUUUUUUAAUAAAUAAAAAUGAGAUAUAUUAUUAUUAAAAGAAAAAAAUUUACCCCUCUAAGGAUCAUAUUAAGGGUCAUGCUUAAGAAUAUUGGAGGCCAGAGAUAAUUCUCAAAAGAAAAGAAAACUAGUAUAAGUUUACAUGUCUAAAGAAAAUUGUACUGAUUUUAUAUAUUUUGUACGACCUUGUUGUUUGUUUAUUAUUUGUUUGCAUUGACGUUUAUAACUUUGAAUGUUUGCCAAAAAUCUAUGAAAUCUUAUAUAUUUCAUAAUGUUUACGAAAAAUUUAAUGCAAAAAUAAUUUUUUAAAAUCUUCAUCGAAGAGAAGGAUCAAGAAUAUUCUAAUUUACAGAUGACUACUAUAACAUCAUAUAUGGAGAGAAAUGUUACUCAUGAGGUCAUAUGAAACUAAAAUAUUUAAAAUUGCAUUUUAAAUCCAUAAUGUUCUUUGAAAUUUUAAAGGUAUAGGUAUGUGUUAUAAAUUCCUACUCACUAUUUUAAAAUCCUCAAGACAUUUUUUUGUUGUUGUUAACAUUGUCUCUUAAAAUUCAAGAACAUGAUGUAGUAUCACAUACGCCAACCUUUCAAGGCAAAAUACACGAUAUUUUCCAUUCCAAUAAUUAAUUUUGUGUCAAACUUUGAAGGAAUCAUGAGAAGGCAUUGUCCACUCUUAAAGAAUUAAUUGUGUGUCAAACUCUAUGUAAAUGAAUCUAAAGGUCUAAAGGUAGAUUUCUUAUUUCUCCCAAUUCAAAGAUGGAAAUCUCAAAUACUAAACUUUGCAUAAAUCAUGAGAAGGCAUUUUCCACUCUAAGAAUUAAUUUUGCAUCAAAGAUUUCUUUUUCUCCCAAUCAAAGAUGGAAGUUGCAAAUACUUUCCAGUGCCCAAUACAUUUUGAAUCUAAAAAUUUAUGCAAUUCUAUCCUUGAGCUCUUGUGAAACAUUCAUACUACCAAAGUAUUUUUUUUGUUGAUUUUUCAAGUUACCCAGACUUGAACCAAAGACCUAAAGAUUGACGGCAUAAACCUCUAACCAAUAGAACACUUGGGAGCAAGUAUAAGUAUACUACACAAGUAUUAAGUCUUCUAAAAUUACUCAUGUCUCAUAAUAAUAGUCACAUUUGUAAAAAAAUAGUCACAAAAAGGUUAUCAUUUUUAAUUUCUAAUGUAACUUUAAUUGCUUAUUAUCUAAUUAUAUCACUAAUUAACGCUAUGUGCACAACUUUUAAGUUAUAAUUGUCUCAAAAAAAUUGUCUCGAAAAAAAUUAAGUUAUUAUUCUUUACUUUUCAUUUAUGAUAAUUGACAUACACAUUAGUCAUAGAUAAUUGAUUAAAAUCACCAUUCAUUUUUUUUUUCCAUUUAUAAUUGUUAAUUAUUUCUUUAUUUAUUUUUUCGAUAAGCAAAGAGAUAUGUAUGACAUCAUGACGAGUCUAAAUAGAGUACCUCAUCAGAUGUUUUUUUUUACUACUUGAUAAUUGUUUUUUAAUAUGUAUGAAAUAAUCAAAUACGAUAAAUACCGUAGAAUGACUAAAAAGAAAAACAAUAAAUACCGUAGAAUGACGAGAGUAAUGGUUUGUCUCGAUGCAACCACAUAAGUUUUUGUCUAAGUGUAAAUGUCUCACAUGUUAGUUUGUUAGUGAUAGAGUAGAACUCAUGACCUCUAUAUUUCUCUAAUUCAAUUUUUGUAGGUGUUAUCCAAUAUGGAUCUAUUAGAACAAAAAAUAUACCCACUUCGAGAUACAGAUAUACCCACAUUGACUUGCAAGAACUUAAUUUAGACAUUAUUUUAUGGACAACAUUACAUGGGGAUAUAGGCCUCCGACCCCUCAUAGACUUCCCGUUAUCACACUUAGGAAUCAAAACAAUAUUUGUUGAGUUCAUGUCUUAUAGCAUAAAUCCUAAAGCAAGCCAAUGACAACAAGAUGUAUCAAAAGACAAUUAAACCCCACAUAUCUAACAAGAUUUCACUUCUUGUGGUAUCUAUUUUAAGGAGUGGGCAAAACAAAGUGGGCCCCAAUGUUUAAUAACGGUUUUGGAUGGUUGAUCAAAAGACACAUAAAGAUUACUUAUUUUAUUGAAAAAAGCUGAUCGAGAGUUACGAUUCGAUCACAUUUUACAUACAAAAACAGUUGAUCAGAAAUUACGUUCCGAUCAGAAGCGAAAUUGAGAAGUCUAUUGAGCAACUUUAUGGAUUUUAUAUGGCACACAACAGAAGUGGAAAAAGGCACAUGUAACUUAUAAUUUGGUGUUUUCUUUGUUGGAUUUUCAAUUGGACAACUACGAAACAUGGUCACAAGAAGCAUACCUCAUGUUGCAACCGCAGUAAUGCUUUUUGGCUUUGAGCCAACAAUUGCAUAUGGCAAAUGGAUUUGGAGGAGUCAAUUGGGUUUUGAUGGAAAAGAAAAAGGAAAAAAUGUUUGGAUGAUAUGAAAUUGUAUGCUGUAUAUAAUUGGAUUGAGGUGUGUCAUGUGGACCAUAUAGUUUCUUUACAAUUCUAGAGAUAUUUUUAACAUGCAUUAUUAAUAAAUGUCAGUGCUACUUGUGCUUGCCCAUCACUUGAGAUUGGAUGGCAAACAUAUCCAUAUAGUAAUAAAAAGAUACACAUAGAUAUAUAUCAUAAAAAUAUAAACUACAAUGACCUAAUGUGUGGUACAUUAACACUUCCCUAAAGUAUCUGUUAUAAAAAUGUUUUUUUAGAGAAGUUAUAAAAAUGUUAUAGUUAUUUUUAUAUCAAUUUUUUUGAUCAGAUAGUCUAGUGGCUAGAAUUCACCUUAUUAAUUGUUAUAUUAAACCUUAUCUAUCUAUUUUAAAAUAAUUAUUUUGUCUGAUGAUAUUGGAGGAAAUUUUGUACCUUUAUUUUUAUUAAGAUCACAAAUUCUUUAUUUAUUUCUUUCUAAAAAGUAGUUUUCUUAUCAUGAAGUAAGGGGAAAUGUUUUGUUUGACUCGUGAAACAUACCUCUACAACAAAUAUAUAUUGAACUUUAAUUAAUUUUUUAUUUUUAAAAUAAGAGAGGCCUAAGCCCAAGAAAGAAGAAUGUUAUUGUUCCCACAUCAAAGAAUUGUAGGAAACACUACGAAAAUACUAAAGUAACCUCAUCAACAGUUAACUGCCGAUGGAUAUUAACCAAUGGUAGUUAACCGUCGAUGAAAAUUGGUGUUAAAUUCGCCAUUUUAUGGUAUUUCUUAACUUUGUGCAAAGUGUAAACAACAAUUUUCAAAAAAGAAACUACAUUAAAAUUACGCGUUUUAUUUUAUUUUUGUUUUUUAAAACAAAAGAGGGCCUAAGCCCAAAAAAGACACUGAAAUUAUACAAUGACUUUUGACACCAGUUUGAUCAACUAAUAGUUUUCUUAGUAAACAUCAAUGUAAUUCAAUAUGUUAAUUGAAUUAAAAUUUAAAACUAAGUUGAAGUACAUUCUAGAGCGUAGUAAGACUAGAGAGCACCUCUGUCUAUUGCAGGUGUCAUAGUUUUUUGGUAAUUCUAAAUUUGAAGCAUUACCACUCGAUCACAUGCAUGUCUAUUGCAUGAGUGCAUCUUCCAAAGACUCAAAGUCUUCAUUUACAUGAAAUUUUAAUUCAGCUUUCAACAUUCAUAAGCACUUAAUGAAUUGACGACCAAUAUAUUGGAUGCAUAUUGUUUUGAAUAUGCCCUUAAUAAAGAUGAAAAGGAGAAAGAUGAACUUGAACUCAUCAUUUUUACAGCCGUUAAAAUAGCAUACAUGAUUUGCUUUUGCUACUUGUCUAAAUUUUAUCUAAACACCUAAUUAUGAUGGUUGCCAAACACAUUCAAACAUUUAAGUUAGUAACAAUUUUAUAAGCAUGGCAUUUUUAGUUUACUAACUUUGGUAUUUGAUUGAAGGGUUAAUUAUAUUUUCGGUCUCUACAAAAUUGCGACCUUGUAAGUUUAGUCCUUAUUUAAUUUUAAUAGUUUUUUUAAUCCUUACAAAAAAUUUCUGCACUCAAUAUUAGUCCUUACUCAAUCCAAAUUUGUUUAAUUUAUGCUUAAACUCUUAAGUUUUUCAACAAUUUUUUACAGACGUGUUAAGAACGUUAUUAAAAGGUCCUCCGAAAAAAAUAUCGCAAAAAUUUGAUUUCUACGUCCAUAUUUUUGUUACUUAUAUCUUAAACUUUUGUCGUUUUAAAAAAUUCAUAUUUAAUUUAUUUCAUGUUAAAAAAUUAUAGAUUUUAGCAAAUGAACCUUCAUAGUGUUAUAAACUUGUAUAAAAAGAAUCGUUAAAAAAGUUAAGAGUUUAAGGAUAAUUAAGCAAAAUUUAUUUUAGCAGGGACUAAAAUUAUAAGUAAUUUUUUUUUGUGUAGGGAUUAAAAAAGCUAUUAAAAUUAAGUAAGGACUAAACUUAGAAUGUCGCAAUUUUAUAGAGACCAAAAACAUAUUUAACCCUUGAUUAAAUUAGUUUUUCCUUUUGCCAAUCCAAAAAGUCAUGCAAGCCUCACAUCUUUCUCACUUGUGAGCUUAGCUCAGUUGGUAGGACAAUGCAUUAUUAUUUGCAGAGAACCACUAAACUACCUGACAAAAAAAAAAGCUAGACUUGUUUCCCUAUAUUGUAGAUGCCAAUUAAAGCCUGAAUUUAUUUUUUUAUUAUUUUUUUUUCUUUGAAAAUGAAGUCUGCAAAUCUUAUAGCUUAUGUCUUUUUGGCUUUCAGCAAACUACAAUGGGGCUCUGUUGGAUAUUUUUAGGGUUGUAUGGCCCAAAAGUCCUAAACCAAAUGGCUUUCACCUCCCAUCCGUCAUGUUUCUCAUGCGUCCUCCUAAAUUUCAAAACUGCCCUCAGAUUUUCGGAUUAUUCAAUAUGCUACUCUUAUUUUCAACUCUUCCUUUGAGGUCCAACUCGAUUAGUCUCUUCAGUGGUUCAGUUGUGAUUUUUCCUCUUAAGUCCAACUAGAUUAGUCUCUUUAGCGGUCCAGUUAUAAAGUCGAUUUGUGACAAUACCUUAUAUGCAUCUAUGUUAGGAUUGAUACGAGCUGUUAGUGGGUUCUGAUACCAUGUUGGAUGGAGGAAUGUUUUACAUAUUGAGCUGUAGUUGUUUCAAGGGGCACUCAACAUGGAAAGGAUAUUGAAGAUUUGCAGAAAAGUUUGGACAAUGCUGAGUAAGGUACAUAUACAAGCAUUUCUAAUUUUCUGACAUAAUUACAUUUUCAGAGUGAUUUUCAAAUUAACUAAGAAUAAACAGUAUUGUUCUAAAGUUUUUGAACUAGGAUAAAAAACUUUAACAGUGUUUGUGGUUUCUAGAAGCAUUGCAGAAGAUUAUGGUCAGACUCAGACAGUCAAAUAUAGGUUUGACGCCAUCUAAGUAAUCAGCAUUUCAAUCUUGGGCUAUGUUUCAGAGUUUAUAAGAGAUCAUAGCAGAAUUCUAUUCACUUUGUGUUAUUGUCAAAUCUUAAUUCUUAGUGUUAAUUGAUGGUCUUAUGAUGAAAAUUAUAAAUUUAACCCAAAUAAAAACGGAUAUUAAGAACAUAUCCAUGUACCGAACUAAUAAGUAGCAAGAAAGUGAAAUAAAAGAAAACACAAUGAUUUGAACUUAUCAUUGAAAAACAUUACAGAAACUAACAUGCACUGCAUGAUAAUAAUGAAGUGACAAGAGUGCAAUAUCCUGCAAAUAAAGUAAAAAAGGUUGUUACUGCACAGUAAGAAACAUAAACAAGUUGAAUCAAAGCUUUUCAAGUGUGUCUGUUUCUUCAUUUUAAUUCUAACGAAUGUCUAAUUUUGGAAUGUGUGCUAUCUUUUCCCAGUACACCCUUGUUCCCUCGUUGCAUCGCUCAUUUAAUCCUCCAGACAAACAUAAAUAGUCAGAACCUCAAGUGAAGUGAGGCGUGGAAUACCUUCUUGCAAGGAUUUCAAUCCUUUAUACCAAGCAAAUUCCAUUGUUCGAAUCGUAGACCUUUCCACAUUUUCUCCGGAAAAGACUCAGGCUCAUCACAGUAUAAGAUAUGCAGACACUCUAAAGCUUGGUUUAACGGUUCUCAAAAUCCUCUAUGGGAAAGAUUUCAUUUCUUUACCUACACAAAGGUAGAGAGUGUCAUGACCAUUGAAACUACAGAUUGACAUCAGUGACUCAUAGUUACGUCCAACUGCAAAGAGGUCUUUAACAGAUGGAAGAGAUGGCAACUCAAAUUUCGGGCAAUCAUGGAUGGUCAGAUCAUGGAUUAGCGAGGUCUUUAAUAUGAAUUACAUCAAUUCAUAUUAAAAAGUGACAAAAAGAAAUGCAAAUUCAAUAUAUUUGACAAGGCCUGAGAGUUUGUUGUGAUAUAUGACACAAACUAUAUGAAUGCAAAUUUAUUACUGGACAACACGCGAUGCAUCCAAGAACUCGCGCAUUGCGCAGCAUGGAACGUAAUUGAAGGUUGUAAUAAGAGUAGUAGUACUUCUAGAUACUGAAUCCUGCUACCUCUAUAUGAUUCUACUUCCAUUGUUCUAGACAAGCCCAAUCUAGAGCCCCAAAUAUUUAGAACUUUCUCACCAUUUUAUUUUCCUCCCUUUUGUAAAUAACCAAGAAAGUUUCAUGUGUACUAAACAAACUCAUGUUAAUUUUCCCUUCAACAAUUCAUUUGCUUGUGUGAUUUUUCAAUAUUUGAAAGUGCAGUCUUCCACAAUUUUGUUUAUUGAAUUCUUUGUCUGGUUACAUUUCUGUUGACAAGUCAAUUUUAUAAAUGACAAAAAAUCUUGUAGUCACUGAUUUUAGCCUCCAUAAGGCAAUAAUUUGAUCAAGUAUGAAUUCAAAAAAGUAUUUGUCCCUUUUAAAUAAAUAAUGUAUGUACAUUAUUUGGAACAACCAAGGCACAAAAUGGCAAGGACAACCUCCUGAGGCUUAGGAGAAACUCAAGUGAAGUCAGGUGUCAAAUAUCUUCUGGCAAGGAUCAAGUUCGAAGAGAAAUAAACUAAUGCUAAUCUACUAAAAUAUACGUAGUUAAAAGAUGGAAAAUUCACUUUGUUAUAAAAUAAAACAAUUGAUUUCUCAUUCAGGAAAAGCAGUGGAUGCAACUUGGUUAAUUAACAUUGUCUGACACAAACGAAGUCGGGAUUCAGCAGCAUUCCACAACAUAUACGACACAAACCCAAAACAAUAACACAGAUUAAUCAAUGGCUGUGCGUCUGGAAGAUAGGCCUUUAUCAUGCAGUUCUUUGUCAUAUCAAUCAAACUUUGAUUCCAUAUCACAUGCUCUGCCUCAUUAAUUUAUCCAGUUUUAGAAGUUUCUCCAAUGUAUUUGUAAUGAAUAUCAGGAUCCUCUAUAAAUAAUACAAAAUAAAAAGUUAUGAAAAUGAAAAAGAACUAGAAAAUGCAAUAUAGGUUAGUCUAGAAAACAGUCUUAAGAAAUACCAUAGCUAAAAUAUUGGUCAAAGAGGCCUUUAAUUGGUAAAAGAGUUUGAUGCAUGCAUCAACAAUUUGCAACUCAGAAUAUUCCUUAGAAGUCAUCAGAUUUUGAAGCAGUAAAAUUCUUUAAUAUAAGUCCAGAAAAAUAAUUUAUUUGAAAAGAAAAGGCUUAUGUUAACAACAUGAGUGCUAAUACAUUACCUGCACAAUUAAUUGUAUAUUUCCCCGAAGGAUGACCAAUAAAGAUCUUCCGUGUACUCCAGUGUUCAUUCUUCGAAAUAGGUUCAAACCAAUUCAACCAAAGCCUGAAAAUCACUCAUAUGGAGCAUAUAUAACAAUGUUUUAAAAUUCAGUGAGUUGAGCACUUGAAAUCCAAACAUGUGGUGCAAUGACAUGUGUAUUCACAAUGGCCUAUUUGACCAGCCAGAAGCAGAAACACAAACACAAUACCUUUGCUUCUUGAUUCCUAUUGAACAUAAAAGCAACAUCACCAAAAGUCUAAGUUCGGAAUACGUGCUAUCUUGUUCCAGUCCUCUCCUGUUCCGUCCUUGCAUUGCUCCUCUAAUGUUUUAGUUGGAGAACAUAAACCUUUGAAAAACAUUGAAAACGUUGAAUUCUAUCAGGAACCAUUGCUGCUAUCAUAGAUCCUGUUUCAAUAGGCAAACAUAAUUAAAAUUAAACACAAACAAACAAACAAACUUAACCUAACCAAAUCUUAGGACAAACCAUCUGAGUUUUAACUAAAUCAAAAACUCACUAAAAAAGACAAUGAAACAAAUUCACUAAAAUACUAACCCGUUGAGUGCCCAAAAACAUGAGCCUUUUUCCAACCUAAACGACCCAACAAAGUAAUUGCAUCCUUGGCAUGAUCUUUGUUCUGCACCCAACAAUCAUUCACCAAUAUUCAAAUUUCCAUUUCACUUUUUGUAAAUCAUUCAAAUUAACGUAUUGAUGACAUGUCUGAUGUUUAGAUACUGAUAUGACACCAAGCCAUAACAAACAGAAACUUUCAUUUUUUAUCAAAAUUAAGCAAAAAAGAAGCCAAACAAUAUAUCAUUCAAAUAAACAAUCUAAAACAAAUAAAUAAAAAAGACCAACAAAAACUUAAGAAUAAAAAUGGAGUAAACCUUGAUGAUCAGACUUGCUAAUGGGCACAGAGCUCCGACCCAUGCCCCGAUUGUCAAAAUCGCAAUCCUCGAUACCCCCACCAGGGACUCAUUGUCACCUACUCCAACUGUAUUUUUGGAAUAUGAGCUAUCUUGUCCCAAUCCUCCCCUGUUCCCUCUUUGCAUCGUUCCUUUAAUGUUGGGCAAUCAUUGAUUGUCAGAACCUCAAGAGAAGUGAGGUGUCUAAUACCCUCCGGAAAGCAUCGCAAUUCUUUACAAUUAGAAAUAUAUAGAUAUUGAAGGGAUUGCAGACCUUCCCAAUUUUGCUCAUUACAAUCAGAGAUACGCAGAUGCGUCAAAGCUUGGUUAAAGGGUUCAUUUUGUAACUCCUUCAGUGUUGGGAAAUCAUUUACAACCAGUGAUUGAAGAGAAGUAAGGUUUUUGAACAUCCCCUCUGGGAAGGAUGUUAUUCCUCUACCGUAAUCUAGGGAAAGCUCAGUAAGACCACGGAAGGUAGAGAUUGACCUCAGUAACUCAUUGUUACAUCCCAAUACAUAGAGGGAUUUAAGAGAUGGAAGACAUGGCACUCCAAGUUUAGGGCAAGCUGUGAUUCUCAACUCAGAAAGACAAGGAAACAUCUCCCCUCUUUCCACUUUCAAUAACCCCUCUAUGUUUGGUAGGCAUAGUAAAUGGAGUUCCUCCAGAGAUGGGAAAACCCUCACCUCCACACCAUCCUGAGAUUCAUCAUCAUCCAAGUAUUUCAGAUUAUCCAUAUCAGAUAAUUCCAGUUUUUUUAGAGACGGUAGUUUACCAAUUAACUGAAGUCGCACAACUUUCUUGCAAUUCCCAAGUUCAAGAGAAACUAAAUUACUAAGAAUAAUUAUCCAACUUGGUAAUGAUAAUCCGUCAUAGUAAUUUAUUUUCAAGCACUUGAGAUUUGAGUGAGGUUGAAGCACUUCGAGUACUUGCUGAGCACUAAUAGUUGGGGGAUUGGUAAAUCCAUAGUUGCUUUCCCAUGACAAGCAUAAUUCAUGAAGGUCUUUUUUACCCAUCAAAUCAGCCGCUUGAGCUUGAGAUAAACUGCCAAAAUCUUUUAAGCCUUCGAUACGCAGUUUUCCACCGAGGUUUAGAUCACGUAACUCUGACAAGCUAUUCCCUUUCUCUAAACUAACAAUGUACACACUUAAUGUUUUUAGACUAGUUAAUUUUCCAAUGUUAGGAAACAUUCGAGACAAAGAUAUACAAUAUUCAAUAACUAUAUGUCUAAGAUUUUGUAAGAAAGCCAAGCGUUUUGGGAGACAAAUCAGUUCACCACAAUGUUUUAUUUUCAAGGUUUCCAGUUUUUGUAAGUUGUAAAUUGAGUCAGGCAACUCUUGUAUGUCAAGAUAAAGAAGCUCCAAAUACCUUAAAUGAAUUAAACUACCUAGUAAUGGCCCCCGGAUAAAGGUUGUGCAUAAAACCCGAAGAGAAGGGUCUGUUGGGAAGUAAUCCUGUUCUUCUUUUGGAAAAGUAGAAAACUCAAACCAUGUUCGCAAGGAUUCAACUUUUCUGAAGGCACCCUCAUCGAAUGAUAACAAAUUAUCAGAGUUAAAACUUAUGUGGUGUGUGCUUUUUGACAAACUAGUCAUGUUUGCAUUCUCCAAAUAUAUACAUUCUUGCCCCAUUACUGACUUAGCGAGAUCAUGGACAAGAUCAUGCAUCUUGAAUGAAAUGUUGCCAGAAAAUUCAUCCAUUUUUUUGUCUUGAAAGAAUGAUUUUUGGUACAAUUCAUCCCAAACCAUGAUGCCAACAUCUUCAACCUCCGUAUUACCCCAAGAUGAAAUCAAUCCAUUAGCCAUCCAAAGCUGAAUCAAUUCUUCUUUCAAGAUUUCCCUAUCCUUGGGAAAUAUAGCACAAAAAGAGAAACAUUGCUUUAGGGUCGGUGUUAAAUAAAAGUAACUCAACCUCAAAGAACGCAAAAUAUAAUUUUCUUCUGGUAAAGCCCAAAGCUCAGUGUCUUUAAUAUCAAGCCAUUCCUUUUCUCCAUUCCUUGAGCUCAUCAAACCUCCCAAUGCUUUUGCUGCAAGAGGCAAUCCAUUACAUUUCUUUACUAUCUCCUUUCCUAUUGCUACAAGUUCUGCACGCUCUUCUCUAUAAUGUCCCAAUGCAUAUUCUUUGAACAACAACCAACAUUCACUAUCAGAGAGACCAGACAAAGAGUGAGCUUGGCAUGUUCCCAUGAUUGUUGCAACAACUUUAUCACGGGUGGACACUAAAAUGGAACUACCUUUUGAUCCACACGACAAAACAGAUUUCAAACGAUUCCAUCUAUCUUGUGUUAACCCAGAUUCCAAUUGUUCAUUUUGAUUCCACACAUCAUCCAAAAUCAGCAAAUAUAUUCUCCCUUGCAACAAUUCUUGCACCUUUCUUUGUAUUACAUCUGAAUCCAAGGCAUCACAUAUCUCUCCUGUAAUAUAUUCUAUAAUAGAACACAAAAUCCUCUUGACAGAGAAAGUCUCGGAAACACAAACCCAAGAUCUUAUGUCAAAAUAGUCCCUCACCCUAACAUCAUUGUAGACCAAUUGAACAAGAGUUGUUUUACCAAUACCACCUAAACCAACAAUGGGGUAGACGGAAAGGAAGUCAGAGUCCCUCGCAUGGGUGAGAAGAAACUCAAAAAUCUUUUCUUUAUCAUCUUUUCGUCCAAACACUUCUGGUUUAGCAAUAAUGGAGUUGAUUUGACGCCAUUCAUCUACUUCAUCUGAGCUUUCCCUAACAUAUACAGUACCAUCUCGUAGAAGAAAUUUGUUCUUAAUAUCAGCAAUAUCAUCCAAUCUUCUUGUAAUCUCUUUCAACCUGUUGCCGAUCUGACGGCGAAACACGAUGUUCUUUGGGUUGAAAGAGAAUGAGCCUCCAAGUCGAGCAGACUCGAUCGAACACUCAUCAAGGAUAUCAUCGAGCACAUAAACAGCAUCUUUGAGUUGUUGGAGCCAUACCUUAAUAUAGCUGUCUUUGACUUGUCUCUUCUCAGCAUCUACAAGAACAGCCUCGAUGUGAUUUAAGGAGGUUGAUAGGUUUUUGGCCUUUGACUUGAUUCCAGAAAUGGUAGAAAAUUCACUUUGUAGGAGAGAAUUCACUUUCUCAAACGCAGCUCUAAGUAAAGCUUCGGCCAUUUUUUUAGAAAAGAAAGAGUUGAAAAGUUAUAAGGAAAUGAGAAACUGGUUUAGACAGAAAGAGUGCUAAGGAGACGCAAGUAGGUGUUCAAUAAUUGAUGCAACUUGCAGAGUCCAUUACAUUGUAUUUUAUUGGAUUAACGGUGUUUUAUCUAGAUCAUUUUUGGAUUUAUCUCUUAUAAAAUAUUUUUUUGGUUUAAUUGCACUUUUCCUCUCUAUAGUUUGCCAAUUGUACAAUUUUGCAUCCCAUAGUUUUAAACUAGCGAUUUUGCCCCCUAUAAUUUUCCCCUUUAUGAUUUUAUGGUCCCCAUGAUAUUUAGUGUUGGUUUUUUUUUUAUCAAUUAAUGUGUGUCACGUGUGUAAUUCCAUUUUUUUAAAAAUAAAAAAAAUGGUAUUUUUUAGAUUUUGAGAAGGGGGCACGUGAUUUUUCAGAUUUUAAGAAAAAAUAUCACGUGCCUCCUUCUCUCAAAAUCGAUGGAAAGAGUUUGAUUGAACUACUAUAACGAGUGGUCGACAUAACAAUGAAAUACCUUUACUUUAUAACCCUCUAAAAAAAAUUUAAUUGAUAGUACUUUAUGUAACACUCCGUUUUCUAAACAUAAACAAAUUCAUAAAAAUAAUCAGAGUUUUUCACAUAAACGGAAUGCUACACUUCUUUUCUUAAAAAUCAUAAACGAAAUAAUUAACUAAUAAAUAUCAACAUAUAACAUAACAAAAUAUCACUCAUCAAAAUAAAUCGACUAAAUUAUAAAAAGUCAUUUAAACUCAAUAAAAUAAAUAAAUAAUAAAAUAGAGUGUUACAACUCUACCUUCUUAAAAGAAUUUCGUCUUUGAAAUUUAAAGCACAAGAGAAAAAUGAAUUUAAUUAUUGCUUAAAUAUCUUAAACUUUGUAUAACAAAAAUAGAAACUUCAACAAUACACAAAAUUCACAUUAAAGUUAAUCAGUCAAACAUGAUCACAUAAUAAAACAUCACCAUUAAUUAGAAAAAUACAACGACAAACGACUCAACUACUUGGCCGGUCGGACCGACCUGCUCUGAUACCAAUUGUAACACUCUGUUUUCCCAACAUAAAAAAAUUCAUAAAAAUAAUCAGAGUUUUCCACAUAAACGAAAUGCUACAAUUCUUUUCUUAAAAAUCAUAAACGGAAUAAUUAACUAAUAAAUAUCAACAUAUAACAUAACAAAAUAUCACUCAUCAAAAUAAAUCGACUAAAUUAUAAAAAGACAUCUAAACUCAAUAAAUUAAAUAAAUAAUAAAAUAGGGCGUUACACUUUAUACUACUCUUCAGUACUUGUCGCUUUUAGAGAAUAAUUUUAUUUCAUUUUACUUGUCACUUUUAAGUUUCAAUACAAAAUUAAUUAUUGGUUUGUCAAUAAUACCCUUAUCCAUUUAUUGAAGAAAGAAAAAUAAUAAAAUGAAAUAACAAAUGAUUAAGAGUAUUAUAGAAAAAAAAACACAGAAUUUCAUCAAAAAUAACAAAAUUUAUUUGGUUUCUUGGUAUGUGUAAAUUUCUCAAAAGAGAUAAGUAUUGUGAAAUGGAGAGAAUAAUAACUUUGUUUUACAUUUUAUUUAUAAGAAAUGCAUGUCUUUAAUUGUUUCGAAGUUUAAAAUGAAAAUAUUAUUUUAAAAUAAAAAAUAAUUGUUUGUUCAUGCAAACAUUGAAAUAAUAAGAAAUAAUUAUUUUCUACCUAAAACUCUAACAUUAAACAAAUUUAAAUUGAAUAAGGACUAAUAUUGAAUGUAUAAAUUUUUUAUAGGGUCUAAAAAAACUAUUAUAAUUAAGUAAGAACUAAACUGAAAAGGUCGCAAUUUUACAGGGACCAAAAACAUAUUUAACCCAAAAAAAUUAUUCACUUUUAGUUUAUAUUUACAUGUUAUAAAGGACUAUUUUGGAGUACUAAAUGUGCCCAUUUUUUGUAAAAAGUUUUUAAAAUAAUGACUAUUCUUACAAACUAUAUGGAAUAGAAGAUUAAAAUUACCUUAAAAUUUUAUAGAAACUAAACUUAAGAAUUUGUGAUUUUGCAGCGACUAAAAAUAUAUAUUUAAUCAUUUGUUUCGUGAGCAUAACUCAGUUGGUAGGACAAUACAUUAUUAUAUACAGGGGCCGGAGUUUGAACCCCGGACACCCCACUUAUUCACCUUAUAAGGUGAAUUCUAACCACUAAGCUACCUGACAAAAAAAUAAAAAAGAUUUAAUCAUUUAAUUUCAUACUUGCUCAAGUUCUCUCUCCAAAAAAGUCUAAUUUAUUGUACUAAUUUUAGAUAAAAUAAUAUAUAGGAGUUCUCUUGAUUCUUGAAUCCAAAAAUCACCACUGUAUCUCAAUUCUCACAAGCGUAGGUUAGGGUCUGUUUGGUUCGCGGGUUUUGAACGGGAGGGGAGGGGAAGGGAGGGAAUAUUUUAAAAUUUUUGUGAUUAGUUCAAUUUUUAGAAGGGGAUGAGAGGGAGAGGAAGGGGAACAAAAUCCCUCAUAUAAGCUCAUUUAUGGCUCCUCCUCAAAUUGAAGUUUUUUGGAGGGGAGGGGAGAGAAAAAGAGAUGAGUUAAUGCAAUUUUAAUUACAUUAACAUAAUUAUCCUCAUGUUUAUUUUUAAAUGACAAAACCGUCCUUAUUAAAAAUUUAAGUGUUUUCAACAUAUUGCUUAUUACUAUCUUUUUUGUAACAUGUCAAUGUCAAUUUUUUUUUUUUUAACGAGAAUUGCAUAUUCUUGUCUUCUAAUUAUUAUUUUUUACGUGAAUUCACUUUUUUUUUACUAACGAUGCUUUUAUUUUUUUUAUUUGGAUAUAUUUAUUUUGGGUUUGGUUAUGGUGCAUAAGGAUUUUCCUUAUGCACCCUGCAUAAGGAUUGCUAAUAGGGCCCAUUAAUAGUAGCCCAACAAAUUUUCUGCUUCCUACACCCCAAAAACAGAAAACAAGUAAAACUGGCAAAACAAAACAAACUAUUCAUUUCUUCAACAACCACCUCUCUUUCACCUCUCACCGGAAACCGUCGCCGUUAACCAUCGCCGUCGUUCUUCACCACUGUAUCAAUCGCCAUCAUUUCUCAAGGUCGUCGUUCUCCACCACUGUCUUGAUUUCCCCACCAUCGUCGUUCUUACUAUCGUCGUUCUUCACCUUCCACCACCAUCGGAACACGAGGUCCAUCGGAAACAACCUCCACCACCGGAAACACUAGCCGCCGUUCUUCAUCAACACAAGGUCGUCAUUCUUCACCACCGGAGACACCGUCGUUCACUACACCAGCUCUUCACCACCACCGUCGUCGCCGUUCACUUCCAACACCGUCGUUCACUUCCAACGCCUUCGUUCACUACAACAUCUUCAACAAACAGCAAACAUGUCGAAAUCAAAUCAGGUUUGCACUGAACUUCUUUAUUGAUCGUAAAUUUGAUUUUCAACCAAAACCAUUUUUACGUGGAAAUGGUUUCUAUGUGUUGUACACUAAAACCAUUUGGUGCUGGUAAUUUUUUUCUUUGGAUUAAUGACUCAAGUAUAUUAUAAUCAUCUGAUGCUGGUAAUUGAUUUCUUUGAUCCAGGUUAACAAAUCUAACGACGGGGGGCCAAUUCCAAACUUCAGUAUUGGACUUACGCAAUUAGAGCAAGAGCAAGCAUCUGAUGAAGAUAAAGGAAAAAAAAAGGGUAAAAAGAUGGAAAAAAGGGUAAGUCUUCAAUUCUAUUUGCUGUCAUUUUUAGUACGAGCAAUAAUUUCUUCGUUGAUUUUUUAGUACGAGCAAUAAUUUGUUCAUUAUGCUGCAAUGUUGUUCAAUUGAAAGGUAUAUUUCAUUGAUUCUGAAAUAAAUUGUUUUAUCUAUGUUUCUUUGAUGUUUUGAUUUCAUCAAUCUCAAUUUGUUGUUGUAUAGUUCAUGCUAUGUUUUUAAUUGUUGCUGGAUGUAUGCUCUAUGAUUCAUGUUUUGACUCUUCGUGCUUAACACUGAACUGCUAGUGAUAGUUAACCUAUGAUAUGAAGCAUGCACUCGGACACACACAGCGCUGAUACGACACGUCAGACACAAUUUGAGAAAAUUAGACAAUUCAAUGUAAUCACAUGUGUCCUGUCAUCAUUUGAUUUGAUACGCUAUGUAGCACGGACACUUCUAUUUGACGAGGAUUUGGUUUGUCUGAAUAUCCAUAACCAAUAAGAUCAAUAGAGUAUAUGCGGUGGGAUUUUGCUAGGUCUGGAAUAUUUUUCCUCCAGUGAUCACUGCAAUGAAGUGUAUUCUCAAUCACUCAAAAUAACUGCAGAACCAAACAGACCUAGCUAUAAGACCCUUACAAUAAAUAUGUGAUAUAAUAUGUGUCCUGCAUUUUCUAAUUGAAAUGAAAGAACAUGAAUGCAUGUUUCUUAAUCAAAUUUCUAGAUACCUCUAUUCAUGAAAAAAUUCAAGAAUAAAGAUCCCUAUAAUUUCUAAAUCUUUGCCUGAUAAAUUGGUUGAUGGUUUAUGAGGAAGGAGAGGUGAAAGAAGCUAAAAAGUUGUGACUUAUGAUGAUGAAUGGUUUUGUUAUCUGAUGGUUCUGUUGUAUGCUUCAUGUUUAGAAUGGUUCUGUCUGCUGUCAUUUACUCUGAUAUUGAAGACGUAGGCACAAUUGGUCUAUAUCCUCUUAUAUCUCUGUCUGCAUAGUCCACUUCGUCAUAACUUCAAUCUAAUUUUUCUUCGUCUAAUGGUGCUAAGUACUAGCUGAGGCAUAGUCUACUGUGUUGUGUCUUAUAUUUCAACACUGAUAUGAUGGAUAAAUGUAUCUAAUAUGAUAGAAGCAAAUAUCUGAAGACCAUAUGAUGCUGUUAGUUAUUCUAAUUGUUGCUCCUCCCUAUUAGCUCUCUUCCAUAUAUUUGGUUAUGCAAUAUAAGGUCUUUAUUCCAAGUUCAAAAAACAAGAAAAUGUGAGUGAGUAAUCACUUUUGAGAAAAGGAAUUCUUCACUGAACUCCAUCUACAAUUCACAAAUCACAAGAUACAUAAGUUUAGAAAAUUUAUGUGAGCCUAACUGAUAGGAAUAGGAUCACACAUAACAAAUUCAUGCACUGCUUGGACUUGCACAAUGUUGAAUGUUGGAAAUAACAUAUGAAUGGUGGAAUGGUAGUUCUGGGUGAGCAUCAAGUCUCACGAGAGGCUUCAAUCCAAGAGGAAAAAAAACUGAAUUGAAUUUGUCUUGAACUCUCUCUGCAUUUGUGUGUGUCUGCAUCGUCUUAUAUCUCUCUCUGGCCCACUUGAAUUUUUCUUAACUACAAAGUUUCAAUUGUUUCGUUGAACACUGAGAUGAUAAAUACAUGUGUUUGAUAAGAUAGAAGAAAAAAUCUAAUACUGAGAUGAUAAAGACCGUUGGUUAUUGGUAGUUAUUCUAAAUUUCUAAUAGUGACAUCUCUAUGUUAGCAAUAGUUUUAAUUCAAAAUACAAGAAAACAUGAGAGGAAACUUACAAGAGGAAUGUCUGAAGGUCUGUUCUUUAGAAACUUAGACAAAAUAUGUGAGUGUUCAUUAAACUAUAUAUCUAUAAUUUGCAAGAUCACAAUGUAAUCUGUUUCCUCUUAUGGUUCUGGACAUAACCCUUGAUUCUAAGGUGAACCACAUUAAUUAACUCUAAUUGAGUUCUUAUGUGUUUUGUUUUUUCACAGAAGUUCCAACCAUUGUACUCCAAAACCAUUAGAUGUAUUUAAUGGUUUUCUUUGCUCAUGCAGGUGAAAAAAACUAAAGAGCUAGAGCCAUUGCCAUCAUUUAGUAUUGGACUAACUCAAAUAGAAGAGGAGGGCAGGAAUGAAGAGGCUAAAAGUUCAGAUAUGGAAAAUGAGGAAAAUGCAAAGCAAAGACUGAGGCAUAAGAUGAGUAUACCUAAGGUAUAUGAUCUUAUGAAUUCAGUAAAUGGCAAACAAAGAAAGGAUGAGAUCAUUAACGUAUUGAAUGAAAGUGGCUUUGGGGGAAUGGUUCAUUUCUGAAUCUGUGUUAAUGCUUCAAAAGAUGUUUAUGAAUUUCGAUGAAUUUGCUCAAAAUUAGGUGUAUGGAAUACUGAAACCAUAAGUAUGGUAUAAUGGUUUUGAUAGUGUACUAGGUAAAACCAUACUUAUGGUGUAAUGGUUUUGAUCAAAAUUAUUAUAGGUACGUGGUUCUAAUGGUUUUCUAAAUAAAAACAAAUGUGAUAAACAGUUAUUUUAGGCCCAAGAAUGUUGAAUUUAAUUAAAAUUUGCUCAAAAUUAGGAGUAUGGAAUACUGAAACCAUAAGUAUGGUAUAAUGGUUUUGAUAGUGUACUAGGUAAAACCAUACUUAUGGUGUAAUGGUUUUGAUCAAAAAUUAUUAUUGGUACAUGGUUCUAAUGGUUUUCUAAAUAAAAACAAAUGUGAUAAACAGUUAUUUUAGGCCCAAAAAUGUUGAAUUUAAUUAAAAUUUGCUCAAAAUUAGGUGUAUGGAAUACUGAAACCAUAAGUAUGGUAUAAUGGUUUUGAUAGUGUACUAGGUAAAACCAUACUUAUGGUGUAAUGGUUUUGAUCAAAAAUUAUUAUUGGUACAUGGUUCUAAUGGUUUUCUAAAUAAAAACAAAUGUGCUAAACAGUUAUUUUAGGCCCAAGAAUGUUGAAUUUAAUUAAAAUUUGCUCAAAAUUAGGUGUAUGGAAUACUGAAACCAUAAGUAUGCUAUAAUGGUUUUGAUAGUGUACUAGGUAAAACCAUACUUAUGGUGUAAUGGUUUUGAUCAAAAAUUAUUAUUGGUACAUGGUUCUAAUGGUUUUCUAAAUAAAAACAAAUGUGAUAAACAGUUAUUUUAGGCCCAAGAAUGUUGAAUUUAAUUAAAAUUUGCUCAAAAUUAGGUGUAUGGAAUACUGAAAUCAUAAGUAUGGUAUAAUGGUUUUGAUAGUGUACUAGGUAAAACCAUACUUAUGGUGUAAUGGUUUUGAUCAAAAUUAUUAUAGGUACGUGGUUCUAAUGGUUUUCUAAAUAAAAACAAAUGUGAUAAACAGUUAUUUUAGGCCCAAGAAUGUUGAAUUUAAUUAAAAUUUGCUCAAAAUUAGGUGUAUGGAAUACUGAAACCAUAAGUAUGGUAUAAUGGUUUUGAUAGUGUACUAGGUAAAACCAUACUUAUUGUGUAAUGGUUUUGAUCAAAAUUAUUAUAGGUACGUGGUUCUAAUAGUUUUCUAAAUAAAAACAAAUGUGAUAAACAGUUAUUUUAGCCCAAGAAUGUUGAAUUUAAUUAAAAUUUGCUCAAAAUUAGGAGUAUGGAAUACUGAAACCAUAAGUAUGGUAUAAUGGUUUUGAUAGUGUACUAGGUAAAACCAUACUUAUGGUGUAAUGGUUUUGAUCAAAAAUUAUUAUUGGUACAUGGUUCUAAUGGUCUCAGAUAACACAAAUGCUCUGGUUUAUGUAAUGGAUGACAGUGAGCCACAUCCCAUCUAUAAAUCUUAUACACAUUCAAAACUUCAUCCAGCUUCAAAUAUAUUCCAGCUUUACAACCGACCCUUUCCUCAGGUUUUUCUUUCACUUUCACAAACUCAAUAACCAGUGGACUGUCUGAUGUUGGCCUGUUGUUAGGAUUAAGCAAACUUCCCUUCUUGUAACCUUGUUUGUUACAAACAUAACGCAAAUAAUGUAUCUUUUCUGAUUUCUUAUUUUGUGAAUUAUUCUUCGACUUCAACAUAGUCCUAAUAGAAAAUCCAGUGUUAUAUGCAUAAUUACCAUAAAAAUCUUCAACCUCUUUGAUAGAUUGAAAGACUAAAGACUUCCAUGAUUCUUCAUUGCUAGGGGAGUAACAUUCAGUAUGAAUCAUUGAAGAAGUUUCAACACUCAGUUGUCCACUCUCAGCAUGAAUCAGUGAUGAAGCUUCAACACUCAGUUGUCCACUCUCAGAUGAAGUUGAUAUCAAAUCCAUUGAAAACAGCAACAAACACUAUUAAGAACAAACAACCAUUAGCACAUUAAGCAUUUUUCAUUCAAUAUACAAAACGAUUAACACAUCAAUGCAUGUAAAUUUGCAGAUUAAGCAUUCAAGAUCAGAAAAGUAGACAAGGACUGAAAAAACUACAAACAAUAACACAUCAAUGCUCUUAUUUUUCAAUCUAAUAUUCCUAAAAGUUUCGCAUAAAUCUUUGCUUGACUUGAAUAAUGAGUUAUUCACUCUUGUUUAUCAUCGGCUUAAAUUCGAUUGUAUAGCUAUAAAUUCCAUUUUUCAUGGUUACAAACCAGGAAUAAAAGGACUCCUCUUUUCACUGCAUAUCAUAUUAGGUUCUAGAAGUGACAGUUUUUUGUGAUUGACAGUUUUAUGUGAUACAUUGAUUUUCAUAAGUUGUAAAUUUUAGGUAUCAUACAACUUUCAAUAAGUGUCCUGGAGUUUGUGACACAAGAGUUUUAUGUCUGAAACUAUAUAGAAAAAUAAACUUGUUUGGUUCUGACUAGGUUUGGAUAUUGUUUUUACAGAAAUCAAUUGUAGCAAAUAUAAGUUAUUACAUGAUACAAUAGUCCUCAAAUAUAGUAAAAUGUUAAUGUCUGACACUAUAUAGCAAAUAAACUUGUUUGGUUCUGAUUCUUAAUGCAUCUAAUUUUAGUCUCUUAAUGACACUUCACAUCAAAAUUGUAAGACUCUGAACAAUAAUUUUGUAAAUCAUGUUCAAUGACACUUCACAAGAAAAACUUUAUCUGCUGUUUCAUAUCCUUUACUGAUGGUUUCAGGUUGAGAAAGAAUUCUAUGUUGAGGAAUUAGUGUUUCCUUAUAAGCAAAAUCAUAAAUUCAACACAGAAAUAGAGAAUACAAACAAACAAUAAAUCUUUGCCUGAAAAAACUACAAACAAUAACACAUCAAUGCUCUUAUUUUUGAGGAAUUAGUGUUUCCUUAUAAGCAAAAUCAUAAAUCCAACACAGAAACAGGGAAUACAAACAAACAAUAAAUCUUUGCCUGAAAAAACUACAAACAAUAACACAUCAAUGCUCUUAUUUUUGAGGAAUUAGUGUUUCCUUAUAAGCCAAAUCAUAAAUUCAACACAGAAACAGGGAAUACAAUCUAUUGAAUUUAUUAAGAAAUUCAAUAAAUUCAAUCACAGGAACAGGGAAUGGUUCAUAAAUCACCAAAAAUGCAGGAACAGGGAAUGGUUCAUAAAUCACCAAAAAUGCGAAAUUGAAAACCGAUCAAACACAGAAAAACAUCACAAACGCAAAACCUGAAGGUUAAUCGGAGUUGAGCGAGCGGCGAGCGGCAGAGAAUGAGCGGUGAGCGGCGGUAGAGAAGCACUUAUGAGAUGAGCGGCGGCAAGCGGGAGGGUUGCAACAACAAUGAAUAGGCGAGCGGCGAGCGGCGGUAGAGAUUGAGAGGCGACGGCGGCAGAGAAGCGGCGAGCAGCGAUCGGCGAGGUGAGAAGAGGAAAAUGAUAGUAUGAGAUGUGAAGGAGAGUGUGAGCUGAGAUUAUUACACGUGUAAAACCAAUCUGAAGGUUGAAAAGAGCUUAUGCAGGGUGCAUAAGGGAAACCCUUAUGCACCAUAACUUAUACCAUUUAUUUUAUAGUUUUUGAUUGUAUUAUAUAUUAAAACAUAAUUAAUAAAAUUUGUAGAAGAUUUUUUUAUAAAUAUAUUUUAAAAAUAAUUUCUAACAAUAAAUUUUUUAUAAAUAUUUUUAUAUUGUACUAGAUUAUUUUAGAAGUGCUCUAAUAUUUAUGGAUAUCUAAUAUUUUGUUAGAACUUUUGUGUUUGAUUAUUUAUGGAGUUUUUGGUUACCGAGUUUUCAUGUUUAAAUUUUUAUGAACGGAAUAAUAUAAAAAUCAUGAUAUUGUUUUAAGGCUAGAGGGAUAAAAAAGUAAUUUGGUUUUAAAAUCCAUCCCAUUCCCUUAUGAAUCAAACAUAUAUUUAAUUAAAAUCUCUUCCUUCCCCCUUCCCUCCCAUCAUUUGAACCAAACAUAUAUUUAAUUGAUAUAUCUCCCCUUCCCCCCUCCCUUUCCCUCCCUUCCAUUAAAACCCCUCCCCUUCCCUCUGUUGAACCAAACGGACCCUAAAGAAUUAUAGACUGGUACGUUGUGAGUAGUGCACAAACGUGAAAAAGGAUUGAUGUGUGCUUUUGAAGACCGCUAGGGUUUUACGGCACCGCUUGCGAUUGCACUUGCCCUUAAUUCCAUCAAUUUUGAAUUGAAGUUCGGUUGGUGUUUUAAUCCAAUCGGUUACCAUCCAAUUGGUGUUAAACCUUUAUCAUCAUCAAUUUGUUUUAGCAAUUGUGGGGCUGGUGGUUCAAAGGUAUCACGUAGAAGUUUUUGAGUUACUAGCUUUCAACGAAGUCCUUUACAACAAGUUAACAAGUUGCUGCAAUUGAUAAUUGUAUGUCACAUUUUGGCUCUGUUUGGUAAACAUAACGGAUAACUAUAAGUUCGUUGAUAGCUUAUAGCUGAUAGCUUUUAGCUGAUAGCUUUUAGCUGAUAAAUGUAAAAUGACAUAAAGGGUAUUCUUAAUUCAUAAUAAAAAUUAUAUCAUUAAUUUAAGUAUUUGUAAUUUUGUAAACUAAUUUUUCUUUCAAAAAAUACUUUAAAUUUAUUAAUUUAAUAUAUCCUAUGUAUUAUAAAUUAAAUUAAAUUUUAUUCACUAAAAUUUUAUCUUAUAUUUAUUAUCAUUUAAGUGUUUCCACUUUAUAAAGAAAAUAACAUUUACCUCAAAAAAAAAAAAAAAAAAGGUAGCACUAAUAGAGUAAUACUAAUAACAGAGAAUAAAGAAAAUAACACUUACCUCAAAAAAAAAAAAAAGUAACACUAAUAGAAUAAUAGUAUUUUGUUUCGUAAAAAAAAAAACGAAGGUAUAUAUUUUUUCAAAAAAAAAAAGAAAGAAAAAGGCCAGCUGCUAUAUAUACAAAAAUUGGAAUAAAGGGAUAGUAGUCUUUAUUACGUAGCUUAUUAUAAAAAUUAUAAUGGAUAAAAAUACAAUUUAAAUGAAAUAAUAAGGGUAAAAUUGGAAGAAAAAGUGAGAAGAUAUAAGCUAUAAGCUCAAACGCUACUUGGAAUAGCUUCUGAAAAAUAGCUUAUAAGCUCGUGAAAUAAGCUAUAAACUCAUGGUGAAAAAGUGUUACCAAACAGAGCUUUUUUUGUCAAACGAGCUUAUAAGCUAUAAGCUAAAAGCUAAAAGCUUUUUUUUUGGGUUUCCCAAACAGACCCUUUGGAACCAAGGAAUCACGACAGGUUUGAAUUACGACUGCCCUAGCUCCGGUGUGGCUUUGCCAGCCUCAGCCAUGUUUGACUGACUGGCAGGCAGAGCUAGCGCCUCCAACCCUCAACUUUGGAACCAAGGAAUCACGACAGCUUUCAACAGUGCUCGCACCCACACCUGUUAAGUCUAUUGUCGCUCCUACGGUUCAGAUGACAUCAGUUGCACCUAAGCCCUCGUUUGAUCAGGUCCUACGUGGUAAUACGAUACUGUCUGACCCUCUCCCGGUGCCUUCCAUUCGUGGUGAAAUAUUAUCUGUCAAAAUCACGGAUGAUGUCUAUUUUUGUGAACUAGAUGCUUGCAAAACCAACCUUCGAGGUCGGUUGCUUCUGAACAAAGGAGAUAAGCCUUACUCCUCCAAAGAUCUUGCUGACAAAUUACAGAAGUUGUGGAAAGUGAAGGAGCCAUGAAAUUUGACGUCCCUUGGACAGGGUUAUUAUGAAAUUUUCUUUAAUUCACAAGAGGACAUGCGAACCGUUUGGGUAGACGGUAGUAUUAGCUUGAAGCCAGGCUUACUCGGAUUAUUUGAAUGGACAAAAGACUUCAACAUGCACACGCAACGACAAACUCACACUCAGGUUUGGAUUCGGUUAUGGGAAUUACCACAGGAGUACUGGAUGGAGAGAACCUUAUAUGAGAUCACAGGGGCGGUGGGAACUUCGUUACUCAUUGAUAAUGUGACUAGAAAUAAACUUUAUGGUCAUUAUGCCGCAUUUUGGUUGACAUGGAUCUUUGGAAAGAUAUUUUUAAGGUUCUGUUUGGUUAGAGACGCUUCCAGCUAAGUUGCAUAUUUCUUUCGAGACAGAAUUGGUCUACCCAAUAUAGAUUUCUUUUGUUCUGUUUUUUUUUCUUUUUUUUCCGAGAGUUUUGGCCUAGUCUCCCUUCUUUCUUGUACAUACUUUUUUCCUUUUUUUUUAAUUUUAUUUUAUUGAAUUUAGAGUUUGGCAAAAAUAGGACCGAGGCUUUCCGGGGUGCCAACUUAGUUACGAUGUCGGUGUUGUCUCCUGAUGUCUGACUUUCUCCUGCUGAGCAAAGAAAAAAAAAAGUGCACAAACGUGGAAUGGAAUAAUAAGCAUUACUACAAUUAAAUGUUAAUAUUAAUUUUAAAGGUUAAAUAUGUUUUGGUCCCUGUAAAUAUAUCAAAUUUUUCUUUUAGUCAUUCUAAAAAAUUUCAUUGAUUUUUAAUUUUUUUAAAAUUUUCAAACACCACUUUUGAUUCAUAUUUUUAUGUCAAUUCAUGUAAUUUUUAAUGAAAUUGUGCAGAAAUGUGUAGAAUAUUGUAAACAUUUAUUCGAAAACAUAUUUGAUUUUUUAGAUGUUCAUAUAACAUCACUAAAUUUUAAAGAACCCUAUUUGCAGAGACUAAACACAUUUAUAUUAUUAAGGUGUUGUUAAUUAAGGAGUGCCCCCGAACACUCUUUUAGGAUCACAAGUUUGGAAAAUAUUCUUUCAAAAAAUCAAAUAUUACAAAUUUUAAUACAUUAAUAACAUACAUUUUUAUAAAAAGUUACUACUAUUAAAAGAUCUUAAAAGAAUACUCUUGGAGCAUUGAUCUUAUCAUUUCCCUUAUUUGGAGUAAAGCUCUUAAAACAAAUAAAUUAUUUGGAGUAAAAUUGACUUGGGUCAAUAUGGAUUGAUUAUUAUAUUGCAAUAGACUUGCGUGACUAUCUGUAUUUUGCAUUUUCGAUAAGGAAAGUGUUGACUGAAUGAAAUCAAUACUCCAAAUAUGAACCAUCAAUGGAUAUACGACGUGUUCAUAAAUUUCAGAGGGGACGACAGUCGUAAUAGCUUGGUUUCUCAUCUGUACGCUGCUCUCUCAAACGCGCGAAUCAACACAUUUCUUGACGAUGAGAAGCUUCACAAGGGAUCGGAGCUGCAACCACAACUAUUGAGAGCAAUACAAGGGUCUCAGAUCUGUUUAGUUGUUUUCUCGGAGAAUUACAGUAGAUCUAGUUGGUGUCUUCUUGAACUUGAAAAAAUCAUGGAAAACCGUGGUACUCAUGGUCAAAUAGUUAUACCAAUAUUUUACCAUAUUGAUCCAGCCAUUGUUCGUCGUCAGUUAGGUAAUUUUGGAAAAGCUUUAGAAAUUACAGCUAAAAAAAUGCAAUCAAAAAGGGAGAAGCAAAAACUGUUGUUGCAGACGUGGAAGUCUGCUCUUAGCCAAGCUACAAAUUUAUCUGGCUGGGAUGUCACCUCUUCCAGGUAAAUCAUUUUCUUCUUCUUUUUUUUUUUUAAUAAUUUUAUUUUUUAGAAUCAGAAUGAAUUAAUGUUUUUAAGUUUUUUUUCUUUCACUAUAUUCAUAUUAUAAUUACUGUGUGGUGUGUAAAAAAAAGAAAGAAGCUAGUAUGUGUUAACAAAUGUUUCUGACAAACCAUUUUUUAUAAUAUACGUCAUUUUGGUCACUAUUAUAAAAUUAUAAUACUGAGUUAGCAGAAACAAUGCAUUUUUAUAUGCAGAAAAUGUAAGGAUUAUUCUUCAAUGCAUUGUUUUUAGUCCCAGUUAUUUAUUAAAAUGUAAUGAUUAUUCUUCAAAGUCACACAAAAUUUAGGGAUCAAAAACAUAUUUAACUCUAAAAUAAUUGGGACCCACUAACUAUCACAUCAGCAUUCCGUUGGAGAAUUAACAGCUGAGCCUAAUUUUGAUAACGGAGACAAAAUGUGAGGAUUUUAAAAACAUUAAUGAAAUGUAGGGACUAUUCUUCGAAGGAGCGUAAAAUGUAAGGACUAAAACCAUAUUUAACCCUAAUAUUUACUAGAUCCAAUAGCUUUUCAAAUAAUCUAAUUUUUUUUUUCUUCUUAUAAUAAUAACCGAAUUGUGUAACAUUCUUAUAAACACAUUUAUUUUUUGAAGGAUAUAAACACAUUUAUUUAAAAGUAUAAUUCAAAGUAUAAAAAAGUCGGUCCAAAAUUCCUAUAACUUUAUAUGUUGUUAACUGAUGAUAAUAAUAAUAAUAAUAUUCAUUGAAUUUGAAGGAAUGAAAGUGAACUGGUGCAAAAAAUUGUUGAGGAGGUAUUGGCAAAGCUAGACAACACAUUCAUGCCUCUUCCUGAGCACACGGUUGGACUAGAGUCCCGUGUUGAGAAAAUGGUUCCAUGGAUUGAAAAUAAUUCAACAAAGGUUUGUAUGAUAGGCAUAUGGGGAAUGGGAGGGUUGGGUAAAACUACGGCAGCCAAAGCCAUCUACAAUCAAAUUCAUCGCAAAUUUGUGUACAGAAGUUUCAUCGAAAAUAUUAGAGAAACUUGUGAAAGGGAUAGCAAAGGCGGAUGGCAUAUUUGUUUACAACAACAACUUCUUUCAGAUCUUCUCAAAACAAAGGAGAAGAUACACAACAUUGCCUCUGGGACAAUUGCAAUCAAGAAAAUGCUCUCUGCAAAAAAGGUGCUCAUUGUACUUGAUGAUGUGACCAAAGUAGAGCAGGUAAAAGCCCUAUAUGAAAGUCGUAAGUGGUUUGGUGCAGGAAGUGUAUUAAUUGUUACAAGCAGGGAUGCACACAUACUUAAGUCACUUCAAGUUGACCAUGUCUAUCCAGUUAACGAGAUGGAUCAAAAGGAGUCCCUCGAGCUUUUCAGCUGGCAUGCGUUUAGACAGGCAAGUCCAAGAGCAGACUUCAGUGAGCUCUCAAGUAGUGUAAUUAAGUACUGUGGAGGACUACCCUUGGCUGCUGAAGUCAUCGGAUCUUAUUUAUAUGGCAGGACAAGAGAAGAAUGGACAAGUGUGCUAUCAAAACUAGAGAUAAUUCCUGACCAUCAUGUGCAAGAGAAACUAAGAAUAAGCUACGAUGGUCUAAGUGAUGGUAAGCAAAAGGAUAUAUUUCUUGACAUAUGUUGUUUCUUUAUCGGCAAGGACAGAGCUUAUGUUACUGAGAUUCUAAAUGGCUGUGGACUUUUUGCUAGUAUUGGAAUAUCUGUCCUCAUAGAGCGGAGCCUCUUAAAAGUUGAAAAGAAUAACAAGCUUGGAAUGCAUGAUUUAAUAAGAGACAUGGGAAGAGAAAUUGUUCGUCAAAAUUCAGAAAAAGAUGUUCGCCAAAUUUCAGAAAAAGAUCCAGGGGAGCGUAGUCGGUUGUGGUUUCAGAAAGAUGUACAUGAUGUUUUGACAAAUAAUACUGUAAGAACUUUCUCCAUAUACAAUUUGAAACUUUUGAAUAUCCUCUGUAAUCUUAUGAAAAUUAUAAAGUUCUCUUUGUUAAUGAACUGAUUUGCUCUUCAUAACUAUUUGCUGAAAAAUCUUCAUGUUUGUUACAAGUGUGCUUGGGCCACAGCCCACAUCUGCCGUUUUGUUGCCACUGUUCUAGCAAGUAAACGAAAAACAUUUCCCCUUACUUUUCUUAGUUUUUUCUCUUCACACACAGGGAACAAAAACUGUUGAGGGUUUGGUUUUAAACUUGGAAACAACAAGCAGAGCUAGCUUUAAUACUAGUGCUUUUCAGGAGAUGAAGAAACUGAGACUUUUACAACUUGAUUGUGUUGACCUCACUGGAGAUUUUGGGUUUCUUUCCAAACAACUGAGAUGGGUCAAUUGGCGACAAUCUACCUUCAACCAUGUUCCCAACAACUUUUAUCAAGGAAAUCUAGUUGUUUUUGAAUUAAAAUAUAGCAUGGUUAAACAAGUUUGGAAGGAGACCCCGGUAUAAUAACAUUUUCUUUAAAAUUCAAAUGCUCAUGACAAUAGAAUCUGUUGCCACUCUUUCAUUUCUGAUUUUCAUCUCUAAUUUUUCUUUUAAAUGAUUAUUUUCUUGCAGUUUCUGGACAAGCUAAAAAUUCUCAACCUCAGUCAUUCCAAGUACUUGAAAAACACCCCUAACUUUUCAUUAUUACCGAGUCUAGAAAAGCUCAUUAUGAAGGAUUGUCCAAGUUUGUCCGAGGUACACCCGUCCAUUGGAGAUCUCAAUAAUCUUCUUCUGAUAAAUUUUAAGGAUUGUACAAGUCUUGGCAAUCUACCAAGAGAGAUAUCUCAAUUGAUGUCUGUGACAACUCUCAUACUUGAUGGUUGUUCAAACAUUACUGAAUUGGAAGAAGAUGUAGUGCAAAUGAAAUCCUUGAAAACUCUAAUGGCAGCAAGAACUGGUAUAGAAAAAGCACCUUUUUCCAUAGUUAGUUCGAAAAGCAUUGUUUAUAUAUCCCUGUGUGGAUUUGAAGGAUUUGCACGUGAUGUUUUUCCUUGUCUCAUACGGUCUUGGAUGUCACCAACAAUAAAUUCCUUACCACAUAUCCCUCACAUGUCCUUGGGUGUAGAGAGUAAUGAUUUGCGUUUGGGCAAUCAAUCAUCAACGCUUAGAAGCUGUUCAACACCUAGAAGUGUUUGGGUACAAUGCUGCUCCGAUAUUCAAUUAACUGAAGAAUUAAAAAGAUUACUUAAUGAUCUAAACAGUGUGGAUUUUACUGAAUCAGAAACUUCACAUGCAUUACAAAUCUCAGAUCUAUCAUUGAAAUCUUUUGUUAUUACUCUUGGCAAGAGCUUAUCACAGGUUCCUUCUCUAUCCUUUUAGUCUCACAUGUACUGAUAUCUAUUGUUAAUUAAGAGAACACGAUGAUAUUUUCUGUUUGCAUUUUUUUCUUUAAAUGGUUAAAGUUUCUUGAAGAUACAAAUUUAUUCAGUCAGACGUGUACCAUUGAAGUGAAAUAAUUUUUUAGAUAAUUACACCCUCUUAUUUUUUACUAUACGUGUCAUAUUUUUUAUAAUCAAUCUGGUUUUAUGUCUGGGAUGUUUACCAUUGAAGCAAUCUACUUACUGCAAAAUGUAAUGGAGUGAUAUCGGAUGGAUAAGACUUCCACUUAGUUUUCAUUAAUUUGGAGAAGACAUAGAUAGAGUGCCUAGAGAGAUUUUGUGGAAAACUCUCGACAAGAAAGGGGUUAAGACUGCCUACUUUUGAGCUAUCAAGGAUAUGUGUGGGAGGUUCUCGACUAGUGUGAGGACACAGAGUGGGGUCACAAGAUUUUCCCAUAACAAUAGGACUGCACCAAGGGUCCAUUCCAAGUCCUUAUCCUUUUUACUUUGGUUUUGGGCUUACUUAGGGAGAGGAAAAAGAAAAAUUAUAAGAGAUAGUAUUAAAAACAACAAUUAUUUUUAUGCAAUAAACAAAGCAAAUGAGUUCAAGCACGGUAUAGCUGCUAGGAAAGAAAGGCGUAAUAGAAAAUUAUUCAUAGAGAUAACAAAACCCUCAUCUACUAGAAAAGUUGAGGUUCCUUCCCUUUUCUAAGUCCUAGAUGACAAAACUCUCAACUGAAAUUUAGUGAUAUCAUUAUUAUCUUACAGAUGGAAAUUACCAAAACUUUUAAGUUGAGAUAUUAACUAGCAUAUGGAAAGUGAAAAGAAGUAUAAGAAAAGGUUAAUUAUAACAUGAGAAAAUGGUCAUUGGCCAAUUACAAGUUAAAAUCUGUGUAUGGCAUAUCAGUAUUUCAAGGGUUCUGCAGCUAUUAUAAAAGCAUUCUGCUAUUGAUGUGAGUGUUACAAAACUAUUGCCUCAUUGCUUUAAAUCAGUUUCUGUGUAUAUUUUUAUUUUUAUUUUUCUGUGUAAUGCACUAUUUUUACACUAUAAAUGGCACAAAAAUGUCUAUUAGCAUGAAAUAAUUACACAACUAACUCAACAUAUGUUCAUGAUACAGGGAUUAACAACCACAACCACUGGUUCCAAUGAUUGUUUUGUUCUGGUUAACAAUUAUCCUUCUGGGUUAUCUUAUACAUGUACAGGACCUUCAGUCCGAUUUCGAGUGCCUGAGGAUAGUGAUUGUCACAUGAAGGGAAUUACUUUAUGUGUUGUUUAUUCAUCAACAUUUGAAAACAUGGAAACUGAAUGCCUCGUUGGUGUUUUGAUUAUUAAUUAUACAAAAUUCACUAUCAAUUUAUACAAGCGAGACACAGUAAUGUCCUUUAACGAUGAAGAUUGGCAGGGUGUAAAAUCAAAUUUAGGAGCUGGUGACAAUAUGGAGAUUUUUGUAGCUUUAGGGAAUGGUAUGACUGUUAAAGAAACAGGUGUCCAUCUUGUACAUGGCCAAUCAAGUACUAUGGAAGUUGAGUCGUCGUCAAUGACCAUGGAAGUUGAGCAAUCUAUUAUGGUAAAAAUGGAGCCAUUGCCCGAAGUGGAAGUGCAAACGCAGCCUAAUGUGAAAAUAGAUCCAUCACCUGAAGAGGAAGUACAAUCAUCCCUUGAUGUGAAAAAUGAGGCAUCACUUAUUAUCCAGAAUGAACCAUCACUGGAGCCAUCGCUUACUGUCCAGGACGAGUCAUCACCGAAGCCAAAUGAAAACAUCUUUGCAAAACUUGGAAAGAGAGUUGGUAAAUGUGUAUGCUUGAAACUAUAGAAUAGGGAUCUCAGAAAUUUAUGAUUGCCCAAUUGGGCACACUUUGUCCUAAUAUCGAAAUACCUUCCUAAAUAUUAUCAUCUUAACGACUUUACCUGUAUGUUUUUGUAGGAUACUCAUCUAGUUUUGAACUGCAUUAACUACUUAUUUAUAUAUUACCCAUUUAUCAUGUAAAUGUAAACAAUAAAUAUCAUGACAUCCUCUAAAAAAAAAACAAUUGGAUAGAAAGAUAAACUAAUGAUCUAUCCUGAAGAGGAAACUUAAGAAAAUCGACAUCAUUUGUUUUUAAUACCAUUUCACCAACAUGUGGCACAAUUGGAAAAACAUAUUAGGAGAUGUGAACUCAACUCUUUAAAUGCAUCUCAAUUAUUUUUAUAUAUUAGUUUUCACAGUUAUGUGGGGAUAAACUGGUUUAUCAAAAAAUUAAUACCACUUCUAUUUUUUAAUGCUUUUAAUUUAGUCACUAAAUUUAGGCAGAGAAGACAAUAAAUUAAUGAGAAAUGAUAUUUGUACAUCCAUUUUAUGAUAAUUUUUGUACAAUCUUCUCUCUCAUACUUACAUUAUCUUUUUGGGAGGGAGCUUGGACUAUGCUAAUGUCAGUUUUUAUAUUAGUAGUAUGUGAAACUUCCAUCGUAUUGUUUGAUUCAAUUUAUGUGGUUCUGAAAAUGUUGUUAAGAAAUUCUCAUGCGUGGUAUCCUGCUUUAUGAUUUAAAAAUUUAAAAAAACCAAAAAUCAGUGUCAGAUUUCGAAAAAGUUACUCCCUUCACCCAAGUUAACCCUCCAAGGUCAAUGGGGAAGGCGACGGUGCAGGGAAGGAAUUAGUGAAUAAAAUUGUUAGGUCAUGUAUUGUUUUCGAUCAAAUCGCAAAAACAAAACAUCAACUUUGGCCUGAAGCAUUGAACCCGCUUCCUGAAAUUUAUUUCAGAUUAGACGACUAUCCAUCAAAUUGUUUAGUCCAAAAGCUCUUGAACCGAUCUAUCACCUUGCAUCUAAAAGAGAUUGCAAUCCAAAAAAAUAAAAUUGUAAUAAUAAAAAAUGAGAUUAAAAUAAUCUUUUUGAUAAUUGAAUGUGUGAGGUGAUGUCAUUAUAGAAUUUGAAUGCAUGAAUAUCACAAAAACAUCUCAAAGUGCUUUUUGUUAGUAAUUUUAUGGAUGAAAUUGACUAAUGAAAAACAUUUUCAAGAACCAAGCAAAAAAGAAAGACUUUUGAAGACCAAACUCAAUAAAAAAAAUAUGUAUUUCAAUAAUUUUUAUUAUUUCGAUACAUUUUUUUAUUUGAAUCAGCAACAUUUAUUAGGCUCGGCUAGCACAAGAUGCACUUAACCGGCGAAGGAGGAAAAAGAGUACAAAUAGGCACUACAAAACAGACCGCAGCGCACUACCAAAGACAAACUUGAUAAAAAAAAACCCCUAAGAGCCCAAUUCCAACCAAAGGAGGACUCAAACAACAGCAUAAAAACAACAAGAACGAAAUACAAGUGGAACGCUUAAACAACAAAAAACGCAGGCUGCCAAACACACACAACCACCAACAACAGAAAACAGCUCCCAAAAAAACCAGUCAACAAAAGCUAUCUCACAAGGCACGCCAAAGGGUUCCAACACCAUUCGUAGAAAAGGAAAAGCAGCGCUUUUUAAACGACUUAGACACCACCGCCACGACAAAACUUUAAUAUCAUCCACCAACUCCAUCACCCCCGUCUCCUUAGCAUUGAAAAUUUUAUCAUUCCUUGCCUUUCAUAUCACCUAAAUAGUCGCAUGCCAAAUGAGUCUAAGUCCUCGAAUGAUCUUCUUGUUCGACGAAACCGCAUUCCAACACGCCCAAUGGAUGAACAAGUUUUGAGGAAUGAUGAACAUAAAACCCACCCAAUGGAGAAGUUCUAACCAAACACCUCUCGCAACCUCACAAUGCAUAAAAAGAUGAUUCGUGCUUUCGUUAUCCCUUCCACACAAAACACAACUCAAAUUAAUAUCUGGAGAAAGGGCGUUCCUUCUACGAAGGUUGACACGGGUAGGGAUACGGUCUAACAACAUCUUCCACGAAAGAGCCUGAUAGUACUCAAAAGUAAUAUAUUUCAUGUGUUAAUUUAGGCAUUUUAGUGACUUGUUUUGCAAGUUAUCUAAGGAAAAACUACCAUUUAUCGUAAUUUUGCCAUUUAUGCUUUACAUGUCUUACUCUACUCAAUUUGUGCAGGAAAUGACAAGCAAGGACCAAGAAACCACUUUAUGAGCCAAGCCAAACUCGCUUAAGCGAGAAAGUUCCAGAGAGCAGCCAUCCAUCUCGCUUCUGAGCCGUGGUUUUAUUUCCGAUGCGUUGUUUGGUGAGAACUAUUUAACUCUCGCCCUUGACGAGCUUGUUUGUAUCUUUUCUAUGAUUUAUCUGAAACAUAAUGAUACUUCCACACUUCCAAAGUAACCAACAAAAUAAAUAAUGAAGUUUUAAUCAUAUCCAAUCAUUUUCAAUGGGAAUUAUCUAUUCUUUGUCUUAGCUUACCCAUAAUUUCUACUCUUCUUCAUAUUCUCUUUUAUUUUACUAAAUUCAAAAUCUUUUAAUCCUUUUCUUCUUUCUAUUAGAUUGGAACUAAGUCUUCUACUCUAUGAUACUACUUCUCUUAGAUCAAAAUUCGCUACAUCCCUAUUUAGAUUUGAACUAGCUGGCCCAUUUCAUUCUUUUCUGUUAUACUCCUUCUCUUAACUUGGAAAAAAGCAUCGCCUGCUAUCCUACUUUCUACUUCUCUUCAUGCUCCUAUUAGAAAUUUGAACUAAGUCAUGCAUAUUUUAUUCAUUCUCCUUCUACCGUUCAUCCAUCCCAUGAAGUGUAAAAUGUAGUUGCUGACAUUAUAGGCUAUAGAGAAAUAAUAAGAGCUCACUUAUAUAAAUGAGUUGCACAUAACCACAUAUUAUGUGUAUAUGCACCAAAUAAUAGUUGGAAAAUAGAUAAUAUCGAUUAAAUUGUAUAACCAAAUUUUGUCUCAAAAUAUGAACUCUUAAGUUGUUAUUAAUUACUUUUCAAAUGCCGCAAAUGUAUAAUAAUUUUGACACAUAAAAUCGGAAAGACAGAACCUGAGCGUUAAUUCUCUCUUUUGAAUGAAGUGUUAUGUUACAUAGAAUUAUAGAGUUCUGGUGUCGCCGACUGUGAUCCAGAAGUAUGUCAUUAAUGCACUGCCUGACGCCAACCUUGAUCCUGCAUAAGAUACGCAAAGUCUAGCUUGCAAUUAUUAGCACAACCAUCUCUCAAGAACACCUCUGGAACUAUAAUACAAAUGUGAUAUUCACUAUAGACAAAGCGAAAACAGUAGAAUAUUUAAAUUGAAUGGAAGUUAGUGUCACAGAAAAAGCUUCUACUUGCUGCCAGAGAAGAAACAAAUUUGCAGUAGAGAUAUAUAGUGGAUUUCUAAAUUCUUCUAACUAGUAACUUUAUCCAUAAGAGCAACAUUGUUAAUUUUGACCAUGGGGUAUCGUGAUUUAUAGUCUUGUAAAUCCAACAUCAUUCAAUGAUAUAAUUUGUAAAUUUAUUCGAACUGAAAGACAUGUAUAAAAGGCUAACUUGUGUAGUAAUGAUUUAAAUCAUUGAUGGUGUGACUGUCAUCAACUAACGAAUUUGGUUAAACACGCAUUAAUAUCGAUAAUAUAUAACCUGGAGGAUGUUGUUCUGGUUGCGCGGCGCUUCAUGUGUUUUGAGCGUUAAUCUGAGUUCCUGUAUUUUAGAAAUUGAUAUAUUUUCCUAGCAUUCAAAAGUUGUUAGAUAAUAUAGAUAAUAUCAUCUAUAAACAAGGAAGUCGUUUACACAAUACAGAGGUUGUUUUAGUUUAUCAUUUAAAACUGAAGUGUAUCUAAAAUUGUGCAAAUUUGAUCAAGGACUUGUGGAACUGAUUUAGCUCUAGAUCGAUAGCGACGAGACUGACAUGAAAGCGUUUUACAGGAAAUUCGUUACACCAAGGGUUUUAAUAAAUCAAUCAAACAAUUUCAAAAUUAUGCAAAACAACAGUAGACAGUAGCAAAACUGACAGUUUGCUAUGAGAAGGCUCUCAAGGUUAGUAUUUACAGUCAUAAGCGGGUUGGAUAAACCCUAUAUUCUAGGCAUUUAGUUACUUUGAUAAGAAUAACUAUCAGGGGUUCUAGCUGCUUUUAGAAUGUGCUCAUUCGUGAUGCCUGUAAAGGUGCCACCUUUGCUUGCUUCGAGCCUUUAGAAGGGUGCUUAUGAUCAUCUGAGUCCUUAUGAAGGACAUUGUGUCCUUUAUCCGGGUUUUCCCAGUCCAUUAUGAAAUUAAAGAAAGAAAAAAGGCUUCAAUCAGUCCUUUUCCCAGUCCUUUAUCCUCCUUUGCUUGCUUCGACCCUUUAGAAGGGUGCUUAUGUCACCAGGUACUCAUUUUUUUUGUAUUCCAAAUAUUAAAUUUGUCAUAUAAAAUCUUAUGCUUGGUUUCAUUUCAUGUAUCAGAAUUUAAAGAGGACAUUCUUGUGCAAAUGUGCUGACUCUAGCAUACCAAAGUCUUGGAGUAGUUUAUGGUGACCUAAGUACUUCUCCUCUUUAUGUAUACAAGACCUCAUUCUCAGGGAAAUUGAGCCUUAAAGAAGAUGAUGAAGAAAUUUUUGGGGUGCUUUCAUUUAUCUUUUGGAUAUUUACUAUUAUUGCUCUCUUCAAAUAUGUUUUCAUUGUCAUGUCUGCUGAUGAUGAUGGAGAAGGUACAGUCUUCAAUCAUUGAUGUUGCUUAAGUCUGUCUUCUCAAUUAUAAGAUAUCAUUUUGGAAUAAAUAAAAGGACUAAUAUUGUCUCUCUUAAUUAUAUAUUAGGAUAAAUAGUUAAAUCUUUGUUAGAAUCAAUUGCAGGAGGCACCUUUGCAUUAUACUCACUUCUUUGCAGACAUGCAAGACUAAGCAUUUUGCCUAAUCAGCAACCAACAGAUGAGAAUUUAUCUGCUUAUUCCACAGAAGAUUCUGCCGAUACAUGGCAAUCUUCUCUUUUGAAGCUGUUCUUUGAAAAGCAUCCUAGAUUCCAGAAAGGACUGUUAAUAUUUGUUCUGUUGGGAACUUGCAUGACGAUUGGUGAUGGUGUGAUUACUCCUGCAAUAUCAGGUAGUUUGAUCGGGAGCAGCCCCUCUCAGCUUCUAUUAUUAUGUUUACUUGAUACUUCCUGUACGCUUUGACCUUAAUAUCAGUUCCAGAUUACUUGUUGAACAAGUAUACAGGAGUUUGGUCUUAUAAAAAACAGAAUUGUUUAAAUAUGUGUUUUGUCCCUGUAAAUAGAGCGAAUUUCGGUUUUAGUCCCUAUAAAUACCUUAUUGUUUUCUUUUCAUCCUUACAAAAUCAUGUAUUUGUUUUUUGUCCGUAGUGUCAACUUUCUGUUUAAAAUAACUAACGUGGAAAAUACAAGUAAAUGACAUCCGUUCCAUGUAGAAUAAUUAUGCCACGUGUCAACACCACCACAUCGGGUGAUAGUGAGACAUCAACACUAAUGAACACGUCAUUAAAAACGAGGAGAUAGACAUGGCAUAUCAGCUCCAUGUGUCCGUGCUGAUGUUCAUGCCAGUCGUAGCUCACUAUCAUCCAAUGUGGUUUUGACAUGUGGCAUUGUCAUCCUACGUGGAAAUGAUGGUGUGUACCUUUGUUUACACCAUUAGCUUUUUUAAACCGAAAGUUUAUGCCAGGGACCAAAAAUGAAAACAUUUGAUUUUGCAAGGACUAACCGUAAUAUUUUAAACCAAAAAGAAUUAUGCUAUCCAUCAUUAGCAAUGUCACAGAUACACACAUGCAUUCCUUAAAUUGUAGCUUUAGUUGAUUACUAAUUUCUAGAAUUCAUUAUUUCUCACUAAUGUGAUUAGACAAAAGCACAUUUCACAAUAAAUAAUUGCACUGUUUACCGAAAAUAUACUGUUUCAAGAGUUGAUCCUUAUACAAAGUUCUGUACCAGUUUGUCCGUUUCGGUCUAUGACCAUCCUUUUCGUGUCUCAUUUCAGUAUUUUCAGCAGUUUUAGGAGUUCAAGUUAAGAUCAACCAACUACAUGACAGUAAGCCAACCAAACUUCUAUCAUUACCAUUAUGUCUAUUCAAUGCAUAAUUUUAAAACUCUACCUUAUGUAUUGCGCAGAUUAUGUUGUUAUAGUCUCAUGUAUCAUUUUAGUUGGCCUUUUCUCCAUUCAGCAUCAUGGAACACAUAGAGUUGCCUUCAUGUUUGCCCCAGUUGUUGCAGCAUGGCUUUUGUGCAUCAGUGGUAUUGGUAUAUACAAUAUAUUCCGAUGGAACCGACAAGUAUAUCGUGCACUUUCUCCAGUCUAUAUGUUCAGGUUUCUCAAAACAACUGGCAUUGAAGGAUGGUUGUCAUUAAGUGGAGUGGUGCUUUAGAUAACAGGUAACUAUAAGUUAGUCAAUUUUAUUAUAGUUGUCUAGCUUGUGUUAUUUGAACAACCAAAUUCAGACAAUUUUCGCAAUAACUUUUUAAGUGGUUAACACAGUUCAUGUAAGUGGCUAAUUGCGUUCAGUAGGUGCUUAAUGGACCAUAAGUGAAAACUCAUUGACCAUCAAUUUAACUUCAUCCCAAACUUGUGGUUGAUGAAUUUAUGUUGGUGGUUAAUAAGUUUGGACACCUGAUAUAUCUAUUAAUCAUCUACUAAACAUAAUUAAUCACCUAUUUGAACUAAGUUGAACACUUAAAAAGUCACGAAAAUUGUCUAAAUUUGGUUGUACAACAAAUCAUUUCUCGAUCAGCUACUGUCUUAGGUGUGGAGACAAUGUACGCUGACAUGGGUCAUUUUUCUGCACUCUCAAUAAAGGUAAAUUAAAAGUAUGCAAUAAUUAACAAUGUUGAUCCAAGUAUAUUAGUCUAGCAUACAAAAAUGAAAUCUGAUUUAACAGUUACACGUAAAUCUCAGAUAGCUUUCACAUGUUUAGUAUAUCCCUGCCUGAUUUUGGCAUAUAUGGGUGAGGCUGCAUUUCUCUCUAAGCACCAUUAUGACAUUGAGAGAAGUUUCUACAAAGCCAUACCAGGCAAGAAUUCACUUUAAUAAACAACAAAUAUAUCGAUAUUAUUUAUGAUAACUCUAGGGUAACAGUGCUACUAUUUUUCUGCAGAAGCUGUAUUUUGGCCAGUUUUUAUAGUGGCCACUUUUGAUGCUGUUGUAGGAAGUCAAGCAGUGAUUUCUGCAACUUUUUCCAUCAUAAGCCAAUGUUGUGCUUUAAAUUGUUUUCGAGUCAAGAUUGUUCAUACUUCUAGCAAAAUAUAUGGACAGAUAUAUGUUCCAGAAGUCAAUUGGAUAUUAAUGUGCCUUUGUUUAGCUGUUACAAUUGGCCUUUGGGAUCCAAACAUGAUGGGUCAUGCAUAUGGUAUGAUAUCCUUUUCCAUUGUGUUUAGAUUAAACAAUCAUUUUUAUCCUAAAAUGUGUGAGGUGCUGUCACAUUAGUCUCUAACGUAUCCAAUUAUAAAAAUAAAAUGAAAAACUGCAUAAAUGCGUCUUUCAGUAGUCCGUUUCUUUAUCAAAUGUAUCUUUCAUUAAUUAGUUUAGUUCUCAAAUGUGUCUUCUUGUAGUCAAUUUGGUCCAUAAAAUUACGAACAAAAGACAUGUUUGGGACAUUUUUGUAAUUCGGAUACAAUCAUUACUAUAGUGAUUACGCCUCACACAUUUAGGGAAAAUGACAGUUUAUUCUUAUGUUUACUCAUUAUGAUAUAUGAAGUAUGGAAAACUAAAUUUAAACUACUUUUCUUGGUUUGCAGGGUUGGCUAUCACCACUGUUAUGUUUGUGACAACAUGUUUGAUGACACUAGUAAUUAUAAUGGUUUGGAAACAAGGGAUAAUAAAAGCACUUACAUGUUUCCUAUUGUUUGGAUCUAUUGAACUUCUUUACAUCUCAGCUUCUGUCUGCAAAGUCGCUGAAGGAGGAUGGAUCCCAAUUUUGCUCUCUUUCAUUUUUAUGGCCAUAAUGUUCACAUGGAAUUAUGGAACAAUGAAGAAACACCAAUUUGAUGUUGAAAACAAGGUCUCCAUGAGCAAGAUGGUCCGUGUCCCGGGAAUCGGUCUCAUUUUCAGUAAUCUUGCUUCCGGUAUCCCGGCUAUUUUCGGUCAUUUUAUUACAAAUUUACCAGCAUCCCAUCAGGUUUUAGUUUUCGUAUGUGCUAAAUCAGUCCAAGUCCCUUAUGUCAGUGAAAAUGAAAGAUUAGUCAUCAGCAGGAUUGGUCCGAAGGAAUUCUACAUGUUUCGGUGCAUUGUUCGAUACGGAUACAAUGACAUGCAACAAGAGAAUUACAAUUUUGAAAUUAAAUUGGUAUCUGCAAUAAUACAAUUUAUAGAAAUAGAAGACAGUGUUCCAGAACAAACAAAUGAAUUGACUAUAGAUGAUGGGAGAAACUUAAAUAUGGAAGAUCUUGGUCAGUCACAACACACCUUGAAAUUGAAUUGGUCACAUUCUGAAAAGAAUUGUUUACCAUUUUCAUGCGAUGGCCAACAAGUUCAAGACGAGUCCUAUAAAUUUGAGUCAUUUCAGAUUUUAAGAGCCAAAGAAUUAGGUGUUACUUAUAUAGUUGGGUAUUCCUAUGCAGAGGCAAAAAAAUCAUCUACCAUUUUAAAGAAAUUUGGAAUAGAUGUUGUUUAUGCUUUUCUAAGCAAAAAUUGCAGAGAACCUGAUAUUAUGUUGGAAGUAGCUCAUACUUCUUUGCCAGAAGUUGGUAUGGUUUACCAUGUAUAACUCUAACCUUAUACUGAGGUAUUUGCAUAGAAGAGAAUAGAUAUAGUUUGUAAAUGUUGGUCAUAAACAUUAACAAUGACUUCUAGUAUCUAAGAAUGUAUCAAAAAAUGUUGAUCAUUAGGUUGUAGGUUUUUCAUCAUUGAUCUCUAAAGAGUCUUUGAUUCUGUAUCUAAGAAUGUAAUUCAAAAAGUAGAAUAUAUAUACUUGUACUUUUGUUGAAAUGUAGCUACUGAGAUAUGACACAAUCAUUAAAAUACUUCAUUUAUAUUUACUGAGAUGUUAUUUCCUUUAUUUUCUUCUAUGUAAAUGUAAAUAUUCUCUAUUUUCAUGUAUAUAUUUAUGAUGUAAUUAGAUUGUAAGGUUAUUCUCAAGUUAACCCUUUCAUGAAAAUUUCAUCUGAUCUUGUUGUAUAAAAAUUGUAUUUAUAGUGAACUUAAUGUUCCCUUACUAAUGGCUAACAUAACCAGCACCUGACAUUAUAGAAACUAUAGUUCAGAAUUAGCAAAAAAGGUAAUUAAUACGAUGAUGUUUGAAAAAGAAAAUCAAUUGUCAUUUAAAAAACUUGCCUGCACUCCCAAAGUAGCCAUCAACUAUAUUAUUUGGAAUAUUGCAGUGAUUUGAAUAUACAUGGUCUUAAUAUACAAAUGAUUCUAUAUUAUUCGGCAUACUGUAUUGGAAUCAAUGUUGGUCAAAAGUUUCUUCUUCUUCAGUCUAAUUAAUAUAUAAUUUAGGAAUGUGUUCUAUCUUGUCCCAGUCCUCUCCUAUUCCCUCCUUACAUCGCUCCGUUACAGCUGGGCAACCAUAAAUUGCCAGAACCUCAAGUGAUGUGAGGUGCAGAAUACCUUCUGGCAAGCAUCUCAAUCUUUCACAGAAAGCAAUCUCCAUGGUUCGAAGGGAUCGUAGAGUAGACCUUCAAAAAGUUGUUCCGGUAAUGAAUCAAGCUCACAACAGUGAUGGAUACCAAGAUGCUCCAAAGCUAGGUUGAAGGCUUCACUUGGCAAUGCAUUCACUUAAUUUGGGAAAUCAGAUAUUUCCAAAGUUCGAAGACAGGUCAGGUUUUUCAACAUCCCUUUUGGAAAAUAUGUCACAUCUUCACGUCUAUUAAUCUCAAGGGUAGUUAGGCCGUAGAAACUAGAGAUUGACUCCAGUAACUCAUUGUUACAUCCAUCUACAAUGAGUUCUUUAAAAGAUGAAAGGCAUGGCAACCCAAGUUUAAGGCAACCAACAAUGGCCAACUUAGAAAGGUGGGGAAAAAUCUCCCAUUUCCACUUUCAACAACCGUUCCAAGUUAGGUAAAUUACCUAAAAGCAGAUCCUCCAGAGAUGGGAAACCCCUGACCUCCACACCAUCGCUUGAUUCUUCAUCAUUCACAUACUGCACAUUAUCCAUAUACCAUAAUUGGAGUUUUCUGAGAGAUGGUAAUUUAGCAAGUGAUGGAAGCCAAACACAGUUUCUGCAAUAAGAAAGUGUAAGAACAGCUAAAGUACUUUGAAUUUGGAUCCAACAUGGGAGGUGCAAUCCGUCAUAGCCAUGUAUUUUCAAAAUCUUAAGAUUUGAGUGAGAUUGAAGCACUUCAAGUACUUCCUCGGUGCUAGUAGCAGGUGUCUUGGCUUUACACCUGAUGUUCCAUGAGAAGCAUAUUUCCUGAAGUUCUUUUUUAUCUUGCAAAUUUGCUUCUCGAGCUUCAGACAAACUUCCAACAUUUUCUAGACAUGUAAUGCUUAGUUUUCCUCCUAGCUUUAGAUCAUGUAAUUCUGCCAAGCUGUAUCCAAUCUCUAAACUGGAUCCUGAAUCCUGCCCAAUCUAGAGCCCCCAAUGUUUAGAACUUUCUCACCAAUUUUUUCCCUCCCCUUUGUACAUAACCAGGAAAAUUAUAUUUAAUUAGCCAAGUCAUGUUCAUUUUGCCUUCCACAAUUCAUUUGUGUGUGUGAUUUCGCAAGAUUUGAAAGUGUUUUCUUCCUGAAUUUUGGUUAUUCUUUUCGUAAGUCUUCCUGAAUUUUGUUAAUUUCAUGAUUAUGAUGAUCGUUAUAUGGCAAAUAAGACUUCUGAUGUUACUAGUCGCAAAGCUUUAUACUUCAUAAACUUCACCAUAUCCAUGGUGGAAUCAGAGAAAAUGCAGAAGCUUAAGGAAGAAAAAAGAGAUAAAAUCUCUAGAUUCAUUCAACUGAGAUGAGUUUGUUACAACAUAGCUAUAUAUAGCUGAAUUUAAUCCUAACUAACUGUAACUAACUAUUAGCUAGGAUUAGAAUCAUAGAGAGCUAGUACAUAGUAAAGUUUUAGGGAAUUGCAAGAUAACUUGCUGCGCAAGCUAUCUGUUAGUAGAAAUAAUCACACAGUUUAAUAAUAGUCAUGAUGAUAGAUUGCUUCCUGAUUUUUAUUUCUGAUCUGAGAACUAUCCAUCAAUAUUUUUAGCUCCAGCCGGGGAACAAAUCUAUCACCUUGUCUUCGAAAGAGGUUGAAUUCCAAAAACUACUGGUUUGUUUUUCUUCUGCACAAUUGGAUUUUGAUUUAAAUAUAAACUUCAGAAAACAAAGAUCUCAAGCUAACUGUACUAUUGUGAAAAAUAAACAUCAAAUGGAAAAAUAAGGCUCUAAGAAAAAUUCUUCAGACUGCUCCCUCUCCCCAUGCAAUUACAACUCAGCAGAAGUAUGUAAAGGUUGUGGGGCUGAAGUGUCACUAUUUACAUAAUUUCAUUACCUUUUUUCUUGAUUGAUUUAAAUAUUACAACACAUGACUGAGAUUAUUUAAGUUAGCGUAGCUCUCAAGAUGAGAAAAACCAAAUAAAUUGUGCAUAACCAUGUAUUCUUUGGUGGUUUGAUUGUAAUAAUUUGGACAAGAGGCUAAAGAGCAUUAGUAACAUCUUUGUCUGGUUACAUUUCUGUUGACAAGUCAAUUUUAUAAAUGACAAAAAAAUCUUGUAGUCACUGAUUUUAGCUUCCACAAGGCAAUAAUUUGAUCAAGUGUGAAUUCAAAAAAGUAUUUGUCCCUUUUAAAUAAAUAAUGUAUGUGCAUUGUUUGGAACAACCAAGGCACAAAAUGUAUGAUUAUAAGCUCACCAACAAAAAAACUACACUAGAGGAAUAGGAAAAAGAUUAAUACAAAGAAUCCCUUAUGUCAGCGACAUUAGUACUAGUAGAUAUUGUAAAAUCAGCAACAUCUGUUGUUAGUUGGAAUUAAGUUCGGCUCAUGUGUUGGAUCCUCUCCUUUCAUGCCAACCAUAUCAAUUUUAUAUUCCCUUUUCUCAUUAUUUGAUGGACUAAUAGCUUGUUUACUUCCUUCUUUCGAGAUUAAUUUUUCAGGCCAAAAUACAUUCAGUCCCUUGCCUGUAUGUAUGACCAAAAUACACUCAAUUCCUUUAUAAAAUCUUACCAUACAUCUACAAUAUACUAUUUUUUUUCUUUGCUAUAAGGAUGGAAUUUUAAAUAUGUUUGGUGAAAAAAAAAAUCUGUGAAGGUAAUUAGCAUUAAAAAGUCCUGAAAACCAACUCCAACCACAAGGAGGUGGAGAGAGUAUUACUUUGUUGAAGCAUGCAAUAAAAAGAAAGCCGACUAAAGUUUCGAUAUGUAUGUUAAAAUAAAUCAGUUUGACGAGGCAGAAAAUUCAUGUUAAAGUAUUCACGAAUAUAUGAACUAUGCCUUACCUUGAAAUUAACCAUAACCAGCAAAGAGCUAUCAGUUAAAGGAAAUUGAAAUCUUCAGCAGCAAACUUCAUUCCUAAUAUUGCUUAACAACGUCGCCAAUUCUGGCUAUUGGUGUUUCCCCUGAUCGAACAUGAAACUCCGACUCUUUCAUAAAUGUAUUAUUAUACAUGAAACGGCUAUUUCAUAAAUGAAGGACCAUCACCUGCAUAUUUUCAUGGAUAUAUGUAUUUAAAUUGAAAUAAAGUAAUGUAUGUUAAAAUUAAUACUAUAGGAAUUGAAGAUCUAUACCAUAUCAAUACCAGCAUUAACGAAAGUGGAGACGCGAUAACGAUAAUAUGACCAAUAAGGUUGACAUCUUGAUUUCGCUCAGAUAAAAAUCACAAGUUUCACAUAAAUCAAUUCAAGGAUGUCUUCUUCUUCAUUCCAAUAAACAAUUUUUGGAAUAUGUGGUAUCUUGUCACAUUCCUCUCCUGUUCUCUCCUUACACUCCUUUAAUUUUGGGCAACCACGGAUAUUCAUAAACUCAAGUGAAAUGAGGUGUUAAAUACCUUCUGGCAAGGAUCUGAAUUCGUCGCAUUCAACAAUAUCCAUAUUUCAAAGAGAAAUAAAUGGCACCUGUUCAGUUUCACAGGAGAUGCUCUCUGUAAGUGAUAUGAAUAAUGCUAAUAUACUAAAAUAUAUGGAGUUAAAAGAUGCAAAAUUCACUUUGUUAUCAAAUAAAACAGUUGAUUUCUUGUUCAUAUCAUCCAAAAUCAUCACCUCUUGCUUUCAGGAGAAGCAGUGGACACAACUUGAUCAAUUAACAUUGUCCAACACAAACAUGGUUGGGAUUCAGCAGCAUUCCACAACAUAUCUGACACAAACAUAAUGAAAUAACAUGAGUGUCUCGACUAGAAAAAAUGAAAUACAAUGACACCAUCCUAACAAAGAGCUGUAUACACACCUGCAGAUUUUCUGUCUUUGGUUGGUAACAUGCCAAGCAUCACAGUGCUCCCUUUGGUAAGCAAGAAUGACAAACACAGGGCCUCAUUUCUCACAAUAUGCAUUGGUUGUGACCUGAAUUUUAACUAAAUCAAAAACUCAAUAAAAAAGACAGAAAUACACAAUAAUAACCCGCUGAGUGCCCAAAAACAUGAGCCUUUUUCCAACCUAAAUGACCCAACAAAGUAAUUGUAUCUUUUGCCAUGAUCUUUGUUCUGCACCCAACAAUCAUUCACCAAUUCACCAAUAUUCAAAACUCAACCUAAUUGUAUCUUUUGCCAUGAGCUUUGUUCUGCACCCAACAAUCAUUCACCAAUAUUCAAAUUUCCAUUUCACUCUUUGUAAAUUAUUCAAAUUAAUGUAGCACCAACACUUCAUAUUGAUGAGAUAUGUUUAGACACUGAUAUGACACCAAGUCGUAUAAUUACAUUCAAAAACUUUCAUUUCUUCAAAUUAUUAUUAAAAUUAAGCAAAGAGGAAUCCAAACAAUAUAUCAUUCAAACAAACAAUAUAAAGCAAAUAAAUAAAAAGACCAAUAAAAAAACUUAAGAAUAAAAAUGGAGAAAACCUUAUCAUCAGACUUUCUAUUGUGCACUGAGCUCCGACCCGAACCAUGCCGUCUUCAUCAUUAGGUACGUUUGUUCCUGUUAAUCCCUUUAUUUGUGGACCCCACCCUUGUGUCAAAGGCAAUCCUAACCAUUCAAUUCAAUCUCCACGAAAUCAGCAAAAUUAAAAAUGAAAUCAAAAAUCAAAAAGGAAAUGAAAAAAAAAAUUAAACUAUGAUGAAGAAAAUUACCUGAAUUAGAAUAUUAGAACAUAUCUUUUGGGGGAUACCUUCAAAAGAACUCAACAGAAAAGCCUGCAAAUCAUCCUAUAAUGAGAAUAUAUAACGAUUUUUGAAUAAAAUUCGAGUCAAUUAAUCACUUAAAAUCCAAACAAAAGAAGGGUGUAUUUUAGGGGGAAAUAGAGAUCCUACCAGUAAAAUAGAUUUUUGCGAUGGUGAUUGAGGCAGAUAAGGGUAAACGUCUCUGCUUCUUAAACAUCAAUCAACUCUAUUCUUGGAAUAUGAGCUAUCUUGUCCCAAUCCUCCCCUGUUCCCUCUUUGCAUCGUUCCUUUAAUGUUGGGCAAUCAAUGAUAGACAGAAGCUCAAGAGAAGUGAGGUGUCGAAUACCCUCCGGCAAGCAUCGCAAUCCUCUACAACCCCAAAUCAGUAGAGCUCGAAGGGAUUGAAGACCUUCCCAGUUUUGCUCUGGUAAGGACUCCAAUUGUGGUAAAAAAGUUACAAACAGGGAUUGAAGAGAAGUAAGGUUUUUGAACAUCUCCUCUGGUAAGGAUGUUAUUCCUUCACCACUAUUUAGGGUAAGCUGAGUAAGACCACGGAAGGUAGAGAUUGACCUCAGUAACUCAUUGUUACGUCCAUCGACACCGAGGUCUUUAAGAGAUGGAAGACAUGGCAGUCCAAGUUUAGGGCAUUUCCAGAUAUCCAAACUAGAAAGACAAGGAAACAUCUCCCCUCUUUCCACUUUCAAUAACCCCUCUAUGUUUGGUAACCCAUGUAAUUCGAGUACCUCCAAAGAUGGGAAAGCCCUCACCUCCAUACCAUCCUCAGAUUCAUCAUCAUCCAAGUAUUUCAGAUUAUUCAUACCAUAUACUCUAAGUUUUUUUAGAGAUGGUAGUUUACCAAAUAACGGAAGCCGCACAAUUUUGUUGCAAUCCCCAAGUUUAAGAGAAAUUAAAUUACUAAGAAUAAUUAUCCAACUUGGUAACGAUAAUCCGUCAUAGCAAUUUAUAUCCAAGCACUUGAGAUUUGAGUGAGGUUGAAGCUCUUCGAGUAAUUGCUCAGAUCUAAUUAUAGAUUCCUGUUGCGAUAUCCACGACAAGCAUAAUUCAUGAAGGUCUUUUUUACCCUUCAAAUUAGCCGCUUCAGCUUCAGAUAAACUACCAACAUUGUUUAAUCCUUUGAUACUCAGUUUUCCACCGAGGUUUAGAUCAUGUAACUCUGUCAAGCUAUUUCCUUUCUCUAAACUAACAAUGUACACACUUAAUGUUCUUAGACAAGUUAAUUUUCCAAUGUUGGGAAACAUUCGAAAUAAAGAUCCACAUCCUUCAAUGACUAUAUGUCUAAGAUUUUGUAAGCAAACCAAGCGUUUUGGGAGACAACUCAGUUCACGACAAUAUUUUAUUUUCAAGAUUUCCAGUUUUUGUAAGUUGUAAAUUGAGUUAGGCAACUUUUUUAUAUCAAGAGAACAAAGUUCCAAAUACCUUAAAUGAAUUAAACUCCAUACUGGGCCUUGUAGAGAGGAUGUGCUUAAAACUCGAAGAGAGCUGUUUAAUGGGAAGUGAUCAUGUUUUUUUGGAAUAUAAUUCUCCAAGUCAAACAAUGUUCGUAAGGAUUCAACUUUUUUGAAGGCACCCUCAUCGAAUGAUAACAAAUUUUCAGAGUUAAAACUUAUGUGGUGUGUGUUUUUUGUCAAAUUAGUCAUGUUUGCAUUCUCCAAAUACAUACAUUCUUUCCCCGUUACUGAUUGAGCGAGAUCAUGGACAAGAUCAUGCAUCUUGAAAGAAAUGUCUCCAAAAUAUUCAUCCAUCUUGCUAUCUUGAAAGAAUGAUUUUUGGUACAAUUCCUUCCAAACCAUUUUUCCAACAUCUUCAACGUCCAAAUUACCCAUAGAUGAAAUAAAUUCAUUAGCCAUCCAAAGUCGAAUCAAUUCUUCUUUUAGGAUUUCUCUAUCCUUGGGAAAUAUAGCACAAAAAGAGAAACAUUGCUUUAGGGUUGGUGUUAAAUAAAAGUAACUCAAUCUCAAAGCGGGCAAAAUAGAAUUUUCUUGUGGUAAAGCCCAAAGCUCACUGUCUUUAAUAUCAAGCCAUUCCUUUUCUUCAUUCCUUGAGCUCAUCAAACCCCCCAAUGCUUUUGCUGCAAGAGGCAAUCCAUUACAUUUCUUUACUAUCUCCUUUCCAAUUUCCACAAACUUUGUAUGCUCUUUGUAACGUCUAAAUGCAUGUUGUUUGAACAACAACCAACAGUCACUAUCAGAGAGACCAGACAAACGGUGAGUUUCCCAUGUUCCCAUGAUUGUUGCAACAUCCUCAUCACGAGUGGACACUAAAAUGGAACUACCUUUUGAUCCACACGACAAAACAGAUUUCAAAUGAUCCCAUCUAUCUUGUGUUAACCCAAAUUCCAAUUGUUCAUUUUGAUUCCACACAUCAUCCAAAAUCAGCAAAUAUAUUUUCCCUUGCAACAAUCCUUGCACCUUUCUUUCCAUUACAUCUAAAUCAAAGUCAGCACACUUCUCUCUUGUGAUAGAUUCUAUAAUAGAACACAAAAUCCUUUUGACCGAGAAAGUCUCAGAAACACAAACCCAAAUUUUUUUAUCAAAAUUGCGACUCACCCUAACAUCAUUGUAGAUCAAUUGAACAAGAGUUGUUUUUCCAAUACCACCUAAACCAACAACGGGAUAGACAGAAAUAAAGUCAGAGUCCUUCGCAAGGGUAAGAAGAAACUGGACAAUCUUUUCUUUAUCAUCGUCUCUUCCUAACACUUUUGUUUCAAGAGGGGUGGAGCUGGUUUGGCGCCCUUCAGCAGCUUGAUCUGGGCUUUCCCUAAGAGUUACACCCGUAUGGAGAGAAAACUUGUUCUUACGUUCAGCAAUACGAUCCAACCUCCCUGUAAUCUCUUUCAACCUGUUACCGAUCUUAUGGCGAAACUUUAAAGAUGUGAAUUUUCUCAGUCGACUAGACUUGAUCGAACACUCAUCAAGGAUGUCAUCGAGCACAUAAACAGCAUCUUUGAGGUCUUGUAGCCAUACCUUAAUGAAGUUGUCUUUGACUUGUCUCUUUUCAGCAUCUUCAAGAACAGCCUUGAUGUCAACUAAGGUGGUUGAUAGGUUUUCAGCCUUUGACUUGAUUCCAGAAAUAGUAGAAAAUUCAUUUUGAAGCAGAGAUAUCAAAUUCUCAAACACAACUCCAAGAAAGGGAUCAGCCAUUUUUUGAGAAAAAAAAGAGUUGAAAAGAUAAGAAAAAUGAGAAAUUGGUUUAGAUUGAAAGAGUAAUGAAGUAAACAGAAUGAAGAACUUUGAAAAUAAAUGCAAUGGUAGUAGAAAGUUAGGUGCUGAAUGGUAGUAGUAAUUUUUAAAAUAAAUGAUUUGGAGGAAGCUUCAAUGUACGUUUACCUCUUAAUAUAAAAAAAUAAUAGAAAAAAUUCACUUCAACAUGCGUAAUCCAUAAACAUAAUACUCCCACCGUCCCAAUUUAAUUGAACCAUUUAUUCAUUUCACACUUAUUAAGAAAAAUAUAUUAACGAAGAAGACAGAAAAAUAGUUUUGAGUGUUUUUGUUAAUUAUUGGUCCAUUAUUCUUUAUCAUAAAUGUAAAGUAGAAUAGAUUAUAUCGGAAGUGAUGAAAGUAAAAUAUUAAUUAGAGUUAUAAUUAAAAAAAAGUAAUUAAUAUUGUAUUUAAAAGUGAAAUGACUCAGUUGUUUUGAGAUACUUUUUAUUGAAAAUAACUCAGUUAUUAUGGAAGAAGAAGUAGAAUUUUACGGUGACAGGAAAAAAAACAAGUACCAAAACCGAAACCAUGUCAGAAGCAAUAAGACAAGCGGUGCCUCGGUGGUAGAUUCAUGAACUUGUAAAUUCUUUAUUCAAGAUGUGACCGACCACUUUAACCAAUAAGAUGUGGCCGAUAGAAUAAUGAUCCCUACACAGCACGAUAGCCAGUUGUUUAUGGGUCCAACUCCAACACUUGUUUUAUUGGUGAAAAAAAUAAGUCUUAUCUAUUAUUCUAAUGUUUAGAUAAAAUAAUAUUCCAUCUAUCCCGUGAGUUUUUUUUUUAAGAAAUCUAUCCCGUAAGUUUGAUUCAGUUAGUAAAGGAUAUUGCGUAUUAUAUGUAAGAAUCGGAGUUCGAAACACCAUACUUUUUCACAUUUAAAAUCUAUUAACUUAACUCUAACCACCAAACUACAUAACAAAAAAAAAACAAUAUUAAAAACCAUCUAACUGUCAAAAUUAUAGUUUCAAUUUAAUCAUUUAAUUCAAAAUUAUACUUCUUAUGAUAUCUAUGUUAAGGAGUGGGUAAACACAUCGUAGGCCCCUAUGUUUAAUAGCAGUUUUGAUGGUUGAUCAAUAAACACAUAAAUAUUGCUCACUUUAUUGAAAAAAGCCGAUCCAGAGUUACGAUCUGAUCGUAUUUUACACACAAAAACAAUUGAUCAGAAGUUACGACACGGUUGGAAGCAAAAUUGAGGAGUCUAUCGAACAACUUUAUGAAUUUUAUAUGGCACACAACAGAAGUGGAAAAAGGCACAUGUAACUUAUAAUUUGGUGUUUUCUUUGUUGGAUUUUCAAUUGGACAACUACGAAACAUGGUCACAAGAAGCAUACCUCAUGUUGCAACCGCAGUAAUGCUUUUUGGCUUUGAGCCAACAAUUGCAUAUGGCAAAUGGAUUUGGAGGAGUCAAUUGGGUUUUGAUGGAAAAGAAAAAGGAAAAAAUGUUUGGAUGAUAUGAAAUUGUAUGCUCUAUAUAAUUGGAUUGAGGUGUGUCAUGUGGACCCUAUAGUUUCUUUACAAUUCUAGAGAUAUUUUUAACAUGCAUUAUUAAUAAAUGUCAUUGCUACUUGCAUGCCCAUCACUUGAGAUUGGAUGGCAAACUUAUCCCUAUAGUAAUAAAAAGAUACACAUAGAUAUAUCUUAUCAUAAAAAUAUAAACUACAAUGACCUAAUGUGUGGUACAUUAACACUUCCUGAAAGUAAAUGUUGUAGUUAUUGUUUAUAUUAAACCUUAUCUAUCAAUUUUGAAAUAAUUAUUUUGUCAGGUGAUAUUGGAGGAAAUUUUGUACCUCUAUUUUUAUUAAGAUCACAAAUUCAUUAUUUUUUUCUUUCUAAUAAAUAGUUUUCUUACCAUCAAAUAAGGAAAAAUGUUUUGUUUGAUCCGUGAAACAUUUUUUUUUUAAAGAACAAUACAUAAUACCAAGAGAUGGAUAAGUACAACACAAACAUCAAGCUAUGUCGUGAGUAAUCAAGUUCUGCUAAUAAUAAAAGUGUCUCCAAUAUUUUUGCCCUACAACAUAAGUACAACACAAACACAAAACUCAUGUAUUGAUACAAAAAUCUGCAUAAUUAUGAAGAAUUGCAGGAGCAACCAAGUUCUUUGCUUAUAAUAAAACGAUAGAAAAAAAUAUCCAAGUUAAACUAACCAUUCAUAUUGACAUUACUAACUAAAACGUUGAAUGAUUCAAUUACAACACCUCUUGGCCCGCCUCGGAUCAGCCAUAACAAUCUCAGCAGCUUUCUCAUUAGCCAUAAUUUUCUUCAACUCUGAAGCAUUCUUCUUAGUCUAAGACAUCAAAUUCCGACUAAGACUUAUCAAAUCCUUCUUCCUCUGAAGCAUUAUUCUCGGUCUAAGACAUCAAAAUUAGUUCAAAUCAGCAAAAAGGUAAUAUAAAUCCAAGUAAAAUAAGAACAGUAAAAAUUCACAGUAACAGAGAAGUUAUAAAAGUAAUUACAAUUCCCAUAUUGUACGCAAGCAUUGUCUCCUCAUACUCCUCCUUGAACUUCUCAAACUUAGCAAUGAAUCGAGCCUUAUCCUAAAAUACACAUAAAUCACAAAAACAUUUAAAAACAAAACACGAACUAAGAUUUAUAUCAAUUUUCUUCAGUGAAACAUAGGUGAAAUUCUCACAGCAUCCUAACCUAUUUCAACCUUUAUAUCCAUUCCAUUCCUUUCCACCAACUUUCCCAACCUAAUUCAAAUUCACCGUAAAUCACGUUAGAAAACUCAAUAACAUUCAAAAUUUCCUAAAAAUCAAAUUCAACAGUUAAACAAUAUUGCUUCACAAAACUCACCACGACAAUGGAUUUGUUGCUUGGAUUCUCUUUUCUUAAACCUCUCUCUGAAUUCAGACCUAAAAAUCACAAAACAAAAAUCAUCAGAAUCAAUGGAACUUCAGCAUGUUGCAAAUCAGACACAAAUUUGUAUGGCUGAUUCCAGUACAGGUUUCACUAUAAGAAUUUGUAUACGAUCACUCUAUCAGACACAAAUCAGAUCGAAAUUAUAACUCAACAUCAACAAAAUCUACACCAGAAUCAAGAUUAUCACCAAUGUUAUAGUGAAAACCUAGAAAAAGACCAGAUGUAAUAAGUUUUAUUCUAAAAAACACCAUUGUUUGUUCAAUAAAACAACAAAAUACAAAAUUCACUUAAUUUAACGUUAAAUCAAAUAAACAUAAAUAAACCCAGAUAUUUAAUUCUAAAAUUCACAAAUUAGCAUACAACAAAUUGAAUACCUGGGAAAAUGGAAUUAGGUCAGCAAAAUCAAUGAAUUUUCAUGGGUUAAAACCAACAAAUCUAGAUGUAGAGGAUUUUGAGAUCUGGAUUUGAUGUGAGAUGAAUAUGUUCAUUCUCAACUCACAGUCUUGUGGUGGUUUACGUAAGGUGGCUGGAGCUAGAGGCAAUGACGAUGAAGAAGAGCAGAGCAUCGACUGAGAGAGGAGAAGAGAAGAGCAGUGACCGGAAGAGAAUGAGAGAGAAGAGUCACGUUUUUUUUUUUUGUUAAGAGGCAUUGAGCGUGUGAAAUAUUUGUCAUUUACAAUGUUAAGAGGCAUUGAGCGUUUUUUUUUUUUUUUUUGCAUUGGAACAUUUGUCAUUUACAAUGUUACUUUUAACUUUACAUGGGAACUGCUUUAUUAUACACACAGUUGCACAACCAUAUAAAUGUGCAUGGAAAAUAUACGCACGUUUACAGCUUUGCCAUUGAAAAUGUGCAUCCGAAAUAUGAAAUGCUUUAAAUGUUCUUCAUGUUUGAAUGGUGUACCGCCCUAGCAUAUAGUGAAGAGAUUUGAAAUUUGAAAAUGGCAUUAAAUGUGAUAUUAUUAGCAAAAGUUUCCCGCUCUAAAUCUAGGUUUAGGGUUUUAGAGGUGUUGUGUGCAUUGUACAUUAGGAUUAGAUAAUACUAGGACUAUUACCCGUGCUAACGUCCGGGACAUUAAAAAUGGAGAAGCUAAAAAAGUUCCGAUAUUAUUCAUUACAUAAAAAAUAAAAUAAAUAAACAUAAAAAGUAUUUAAGAGCAUACAAAAUAUUGGGUCACACAUUUUCGAAUAUCUCCUUAUAAACUACAUUUGAAGUGGUGCUGAUACAAUCCCAUUGUCAUCCGUUAAUAAUUUCUUCAGACCAUCCCUUGAUGUCACACGUGAUACUGCAACAUAUAGCUGCCCAUGUGAGACGACCGACUGUGGAAGAUAGAUGCCAACUUGCUAUAGAUCCAAACAGCUGCAACUGCCAACCCUAUAGAUGCUAGCCAGCAGCUGAAACCAACAACUAAAAUGCCAACAACACCAUGACAGCACCCUGAAACCACCAAAAACCUGCACAACACCACCAGAAAAGCUCCCAAAAUGACAGCAGAACCCGCACAAAAUAAAGGAAUUAAACGUAAGGAAUGUUGAAUAACUAAAUAUACUUCGCAAUCAUAUUUUCAAUUUAUAAACACAGAGCGAAGUGGAAAGCACAAUCAUUAAAGGUCAGCAUCAAUGGACAUAUUGGUGUGUUUGAAAAAAAAAUAAACAUAUGAUUUUAAAGUAUCAAUCAAUUUAUUAACAACAUAAUACAUGAUGGUAAAAUCUAUUUAAAUAUCAUCAAUUCACUUACAAACAAACCAAAAAUGUAAUGGAAUAACAAAGUUAGGGAAAAGUUACAGGAACAACGAUUUAGGAUAUAUAUAGUAGCAUCUUCAACACAUAUGGCUGAUACGAUGCCGCAGACGACAACGGCCAAGGUGAUGUCGGAAUCGAGAGCAUUGGUGAAGGGCGACGACAGGAGAGAGCUGCGGCAACGGAGAGAGCGGCAACGACAGAGAAUUUUGUUUGAAUGUCUGAGAGUGAGGUGGAAGAUGAACAACUCAAAGGGCGAAGAGAUUUUUUUUGAGUAAAAGCAAUCUGAAUUCCAACACAUAAAGAAGGAAUAAUGAGAGUGGAGAGAAGAGAACUUUAAAAUGAAGGAGAAAGAGGUGGACAUCGAUAAGUGUGGAGUCAAUUUGGGAAUUGGAGGAUAAUUAAUGAGUCAAAACUUGGAAAAGUGCAUAGGAAAUAUACAUCAAAUUUGAAAAUUUGACUCAGAUUAGAUCAAAGGAUGAGAUGCAUGCUUAGCCAAAUGAUGAGAUCCAACGGCCUCCCUUGUUUUGGAGCCAAAACCAUUUAGGUUUAGGGUUUGCAAUUUCAUUAGCAAUGUUAACAAAGAUUAGAUAUAAGCAUGACUAGGACUAUUACCCGUGCUAACGCCCGGGACAUUAAAAAUGGAAAAGUUAAAAAUGUUCCGAUAUUAUUCAUUACAUAAAAAAUAAAAUAAAUAAACAUAAAAAGUAUUUAAGGGCAUACAAAAUAUUGGGUCACACAUUUUCGAAUAUCUCCUUAUAAACUACAUUUGAAGUGGUCCUUAUACAAUCCCCAUUGUCAUCCGUUAAUAAUAUCUUCAGACCAUCCCUUGAUGUAACACGUGAUAUUGCAACAUAUAGCUGCCCAUGUGAGAAGACCGGUUGUGGAAGAUAGAUGCCAACUUACUUAAGUGAUUGUCCCUGACUUUUGUUUAUAGUCAUUGCAAAACACAAAGCUAUAGGAAACUGUAUGCGUUGAAAUUUGAAAGGAAUUCUGGUAUCAGAUGGUUCAAUGACAAUCUCGGUAUGUAGACCUUCUCUCCAACAUUGCUUCCUGAUAUUACCCUCCCUUCAAUAACAUAUCUUCCCAUCUUAGUGACUAUUAGUCGAGUACCAUUACACAAACCUGCUGUUAUGUCCAAAUUUCUCAACAACAUAAUAGGAACUCCAACUUUCAAAGUAAUCUUGUGAUUAGGAAGACCCGAUGAAUUGAUUGUGUUCAAGAAUUCUGGUAUGUGAAUAUCAUCUGGCCUAUUGACUGAUGCGAUAUCUGCUAUUACAGAAUCACAACUCAAAUAUGUCCUUUCUUCGCCGGGAAUGAGAGACAAAACAUAGUUAUUAACCUCAUCAACAAUUGUAUUUUUAGGAGUCAAUAUUGCUUUAUCUUGAAAAAAAGAUGUAUCAUGCAUAUUGAGUAAUAUUGACGGAUAGAUGCAGUCAACAAUUGAAGCAAUAUGAUCACUUGCGCUAUUAACGAGUAGAUCAUCUGGGAUUUCCACCUGAAUGCUAUCAUCUCCAAUCCCUAAUACCCAUUUGGCGAAUUCUGUUCUUUCUUGUACCUCAUUUGGUGAACAUCCAUGCAAAAGUCUCAUAUUCGUUGUUAAUGUUAAUACCUCACAAUGUCGCCAAAGUUUUGACGAAUUAAUACUUGUAUAAACGACAUCUGGUCUGGUGCCUUUAGGAACGACUGGUAGAAUCUGUCGAAAAUCUCCACCAAGAACCACAACUUUACCACCAAAAGGAAUGUCUGUCCUCCUGUUAUUAUGAUCUUUAAGGACAUCCCUUAAGGUGCGAUCAAGAGCUUCAAAGCAAUGUUUGUGCAUCAUAGGUGCUUCGUCCCAGAUGAUUAGUUUUGCUCGUAUAAUCAAUUGUGCCAACGGACUUUUAGGCUUUAUAGUGCAAGUCGAACAUUCGUCCACAUUGAAAGGAAUGCAAAACCUUGAGUGUGCUGUUCUUCCGCCAGGGAUAAGCAAUGCGGCAAUACCGCUGGAUGCAACUGUCAACACAAUUUCACCCUUCGAAUGCAAUGCUGAUGACAAAGCUCUCCAAAUAAAUGUUUUACCUACAUUAAGGAACCUAAUUAGAUUAAUAUCAUACACUUGCCAAUAUAUAUUUCUCACCGGAAUUUAACAAAAUAAUCAAUUGUUGUAAACUACUAUAUUUCAAGUAUAGAUCUGAUGCAAAAUUGUUGUACUAUUAUGCUAAUAUAUACCAUCAAAAUAAAAAUUUGAUAAAACAAUAAUUUUCCCAGCCAAAGACUACAAUAAUGAUUAUUACAAAUUUUUUUGAAUGUUAUUAAAACGAUAUAUUUUAAUAGGCAGCAAUGUGAAAUUUAAAAAACCAAGAUGAGCUUCGAAAACAAACACGUGAUAGAUAUUAUUGAAGUAGCAAUAAACGUCACAAGAAAGGGGGGGUUUGAAUUGUGACCCUUUUAAAAAUUAUUCCUGAAACUUAAUUUUAGAUUUAUAUACUCAAGAAUAAUCUUGGUGAAUGUUAGUUUAUCAAGAUUAGAGUAUAUAACAAUUAAUUGAAUUAGAACAGAACGUUCUGAAGAAUGAUUAUAAACAGAAUGAGAAAAAUGAAGUUAAGUUAAAAGAUUAUUUUAGCAAGGACCAGAAUGUUCUGGAGAUUAAUAAAAUAAUGUGUGUGUGUUGUGUAACUUUAAAUAAAGAGAGAGAGAGAGAGAGAGAGAGAGAGAGAGAGAGAGAGAGAGAGAGAGAGAGAGAGAGAGAGAGAGAGAGAGAGAGAGAGAGAGAGAGAGAGAAAUAACACAGGAGAGUUAUCCUGAUUCACCAAACCCGGCUACUUCCAGUCCCCACACCUCGUGUGAGAUUAUCCACUAUAGUUUUCUUGCUAACAGAAACUUCUGACUAGCACUACAAUUUCUUGAUCACACCAGAUCAGUCCAUAACACCUGUAUUAUCAACCUCAGCAGGCUUAUACAAUUCUUUGCACACUAGCAAAAGAAAGGUUGGAAUUUUCUAUCUCAAAACUAUUAAGCCCAAUAGACUUUGAGAAAUACAACACACUUUGUAUGAAGAGAUUUGUUUGGAUAGAAUAAAUACUCAAAUCUUUGUUUGAGUUUUACAAGAGGCAAAUUCAAGAGAGAUGAUCCAAGAGAUAUAGUGAGAGAGCUUGGAAUUUGCUUUGUAUGUGAAGAGCUUUGUUUGUAGUGAUGAUUUUCACUUUGAGAGAUAUUAGCUUUCAAAACUCUUGCUUAUGACCUUCAAAGGCCCUUGUAUUUAUAGGUGAGGAGUGUCUUGGUGACCAAGGGAGAAAAUAGAGCUGUUGGACACGUUUUUGAUAGCUGUCCAAAGUCUCAUUUGAUUUCUCUUUUCUUCUUAAAAAUAGCCAGAACGUUCUCAGAAUGUUCUUUCUGAUUUGCCUGACUUUGAAAGCACUGUUGCUUUGCUUGCGCAUGAGAUAACCAGCUGUAAUGAGCUGUAUAACUUGCAGCCCACUUCUGAUGAUGUCAUGUCCUUUUGCUCUAGUGAUGUCAUGCUUAAGUAAGCCAUGUGAUCUUAUCCAUUUAAUGGGCUUUACUUUUCCAAAUGGGCUUAAAGCUUUUCUUAUGGCCCAAUAGACAUAAUCAGCCAAGCUUUCUUGCUGUGCAGACUUGUUCGCUUUUGAUGUACUGUUCCUUUUUCAUCGUUUUCGCCAGAACGUUCUCAUUUCAUUCUCAUGAAACAAAUUCUCACAAAAACGAAUUAGUAGAUAACAAGAUUAAAUAAAUAUAAUAUGUUUGUAAUCUUUAAAACAUCAAAUAAGGAUUUUGUCUCAACAAUCUCCCCCUUUUUGAUGAUGACAAACAUUUAUAAUUUAUUUUGAUUUUGAUUUUGAGUUUUUGAAAAAUUUGUUAAAAACUCCCCCUCAAUUUUAGCAACCAAAAUUUUGUGCCAUUUUGAGAGUUUUCCAGAAUUUGUUUAUGGACAAUUGAGUUUGAUAAUUUUAUCAAAGAACUCCCCCUCAAUUCAUGCAUUCAAGAUUUAAUAUGCAAAAUGAGAAUAUAGAACAUAAACAACAUAAUUCAUAAAUCAUGAAGAUCAUUACAAGGUAUCAAACCUAGCAUUUCAAAACAUCAAAAAGCAUUGUUCAUAUGCGCACAUACUAGCAGCAAUUUGAUCCUUAGUUAAUCAUGAUCAAAAGACAUAAACAGAGAAAUAAAAACAGAGUUUUUUUUAAACAUCAAAAUACUUAAACAUAAACAGCAGCAUAGUGAUCUAUUCUUCCCUAGAUCCUAACUGUUUUCCUGGUCCUCCUAACUCAUAAUCCCCUAAAUCAUCUCCCCCUUUGUCAUCAUGAAAAGGGGCAGCAGCAGCAGUAGGUGGAAUGGUUGGAGAAGAAGCAUCAGAUGAUGAAGAGAUAGUAGGCAUGAACAUGGGAUACAUAGGAACUGGGAAUGGGUUUUGUUCUGGUCUAGCAAACUCAUUCUUGUCACUUAUGGAGUCCUUCCACUCCUGACAGAGACUCUCACGCGUCUUUGUUCUUUUGCCUUUCCUUNNNNNNNNNNNNNNNNNNNNNNNNNNNNNNNNNNNNNNNNNNNNNNNNNNGAAGAGACUUAAGGGAAUCCAUUUGGACAGAUGAAUCAAAAGCUUGUGGAGCAAAUAAUUUGUCCACUGAAUCACAUUGAAACAAAGCAGAAUAAUCAUGCUUUUGAGGAGAGAUAAACAAUUUUGAAGGUUUUGUGAUUAUGGUUUUUUCAGUGAAACUUUGAAGAAUUUCUGAAGCUUUGACUUUUGACAGAGAAGCAUGAUUGCCAAAGUUUUCAAGCAGUUCCUGAUCUUCCUCCAUCACAGGAGAACGUUCUGAAGAACGUUCUGGAGGAUUGCAGUGUUCAUCAGAAGCAUUUUAUGGAACUGGAUUCUGCAGAUCAGGCCCAUCUUCCCUCUUUCUUUUGAGGUCAGAAGGAGGCUCAUCAACAGGUUCCUGCUUCAUGUGACUCAGAUUUUUUGGAGUAAAUUGAGAAUACUCAAAAACAGAUUUUUCACCUUCAAAAGGAAUAUGAUUCUUAAUGAAGAUUUUGGUAAGAGCCAUUCCAUAAGGAAGACAAGAUUUUUUGUUACGAGACUGAAUAACAUUGAUCAUGUUAUGAAUAAUGAUAUGAGGCAGACUCAAUUUUUCUUUCAUUAAGAGAUGAUACAUGACCAAGAGAUCAUUUGAACUAACAUGUUGAAAAUUACCAUUUCUAGGCAAGACACAAUGUUGGCUUAUGCCAUUCAGCAUUUUUGGGGUUGGCAGAAGGUUCGAAGAAACAAACUCAGUGACAUUUGGUUUGAAAAGGAGUUUGUAAACAUUUUCAGAAUUGACUUCAAGUUUUUCAAACCAAUCAUCACCAAAGACAGUUUGACCAGAAUUUGAGAUACCAAGAGUAUCAGAGAUUACCUGUGGAGUGAGACGUAUCUCAACAUCCUUAAUCCUAGACACUAUUAAGCUUUCCUCAGGGUAUGCUUCUGCCAUGAAAUAGAAAGCUUGGACAAGCUUUGGGUAGUGUCUCUCACGAAGCUGUAGAAAUUUGGUCCAGCCUUGCUCAUCAACAUACUCCUUAAGAACGACUUUGUCUUUUUCCAGCUUGACAAAAUCAUAAUACCUUCCAAUUCCAAUUGACCUAUUUCCCCAUUUUUCUUUGAAAUCCUUUUUCAGAGAAGGAUCAAACAGAGGUACUCUCUUUCCUGUAGAGAUAUGAAUGAUCUUCUGUUUUGAAGGAUUUUUGGGCUUUGGAGAACAUUCUGGAGAAUAAUCUGAAGAGAGUUCAUAGUCUUUAUCAGAAAGACUUUCUGAAGAACGUUCUGGAGAACGUUCUGGUUGAGCAGUUUGCUUCUGCUUUCCUUUGUCCUUCACAGUUGGUUUAGGCUUUGGUUUUGGUACAGAAACCUUGAUAGGAGGUUUAGAGACCUUUUUGUUACUCUUAGGUUUGGGCUUAAGAGGAGAAGGAGUUUUCUCAGCCAAAGGGGUAGUUGGUUCAGUUUCUUCAUCUGAAUCAGAGAUUUCAUGUACAGUUGUGUCUACACUGUUGGUUUUCUUUGUUCCAACUGCAGAACGAAGCCUUUGAGAUUUUCUAGGUCUUGGAUUAGGAGCAGAUUUAGCCUUCUUGGGAGGCAACUUCCUUUUGGUCAUGUUCCUGAGAUGAGGAGCCAUUUUGUUCAAGUUUGGAGGUUCCUGAGGAGCGGUUGGUUGAUCUUCAACACCUACUCUUGGUGUGUUGAGAUUUAGGUUGACCGAAGUUGGUUGUGGUUCAACGUAGAGUACCAUCGCGAGAGGAUGGAAGGAUUCAGGGUCAGGGAUGAAAGGAAGUUCUUCGUCGUUUUUCAAUGGAGUUUUUUCUGGUGUGGUUUCGGUGGUGAGAUAACCAUCUUGCAUGAUUGGUUCUGUGGAGUUAUUGAGCGGAGAUUGUGGUGGAGUUUCGAAUGGAGUGGUUUCCUUGGUUGGUGAUGGAGUUGAAUCGAACAGAGGAGGAGAUGACAGCGGUUUUGUCACCGGAGGAGAUGGUGGAGAAGGAGAACGGGUUGGUGAAGGUGAAGGAGAAGAGUCAUCUGGGUUAGUGUUUCCGGUUCCUUUGGUUCUAGCCAUUUUGUGAUGAAGAAAAUGGUGGUUGAGAGAAGAAGAAGAGACGGUUUGAAGAAGGAAGAAAGUGGGAGUUUAGAGAGAAAAAGUGAAAACCGGUUUUGGGAGAAGGAAAAAGGUAAGAAGUGACUAUUAGUGGUUUAAUGAUGAGAGAGAGGACAAGAGCAUUAAUGAGCUGUAAGAGAUUUCUUGGUAAUUAAAUUUCUACCUAGAGAUUAGCUUAAAUAGAACUAAGCUGAAAGGACAAGGUUGAGGCGUGACCCUCAAGCCAGUCUUUGGGAGACAUUUUUCAAAGAAUGUUUUCAGAACAUUCUGAUGAAGAGAGACUCUUCCUAUUUUAAUCCUUUGCAAGGAUUUUGAAUAAUAUGCAAUUUUUCUUUAAUGAAAUUAAAGUGAUCCUCAACUAAAGGUUUAGUAAAGAUAUCAGCUAAUUGAUUUUUUGUAUCAACAAAAAUCAAUUCAAUUUCCUUUUUAUUGACAUGAUCCCUAAUGAAAUGAUGUUUUAUUUCAAUAUGUUUUGAUCUUGAAUGUUGAAUGGGAUUCUUUGAUAAAUUUAUUGCACUUGUAUUGUCACAAAAUACUGGAAUAUUUGUGUACCUUAUUGAGAAAUCUUCAAGUUGAUUUUUAAUCCAGAGAACUUGAGAACAACAGUUGGCUGCUGACACAUAUUCUGCUUCUGUAGUUGACAGAGCUAUAGUGUUCUGCUUUCUGCAUGACCAACUUAUGAGUGCAUUCCCAAGAAACUGACAUGCUCCACUUGUACUUUUUCUUUCUAUUCUGUCUCCAGCAUAGUCAUCAUCACAGUAUGCUAUAAGAUCAAAACAAGACCCUUUGCUAUACCAAAGGCCAAGAUCAGUAGUACCUACUAGAUAUCUGAAAAUUCUUUUUACAGCAGUUAAAUGAGAUUCCCUUGGAGAGGUUUGAAAACGUGCACAUAAACCAACAGCAAAAACAAUAUCUGGUCUGCUAGCAGUUAAGUACAACAGAGAUCCAAUCAUACCUCUGUAUUCUUUUUCAGAAAUGGUUUUUCCAUUUUCAUCCUUAUCUAAAUUAGAUGUUGGAUGCAUGGGAGUUGCCAUUAUUUUGGCUUCAUUCAUUUUAUAUUUUUUAAGAAGAUCUCUUAUAUAUUUUUCUUGACAAAUAAAAAUGCCAUUUGAUUCUUGCUUAAUUUGCAAGCCAAGAAAGAAUCUUAAUUCUCCCAUCAUACUCAUUUCGAAUUCACUUUGCAUGAGAUUUGAAAAAUCAUCACACAUUUUUUCAUUUGUUGAACCGAAUAUGAUAUCAUCAACAUAAAUUUGAACAAUUAAAAAAUUUGUUUUGUCAUUUUUUCUAAAAAGGGUUGUAUCAAUUUUUCCUCUAGAAAAAUCAUUUUUGAUUAAGAAUGGACUUAACCUUUCAUACCAAGCUCGAGGAGCUUGUUUAAGACCAUAUAGUGCUUUUGUGAGUUUAAACACAUGAUUAGGUUUGUUUGUGUUCUCAAAACCAGGAGGUUGAUGAACAUAAACUUCCUCAUUUAAAAAUCCAUUUAAAAAGGCACUUUUGACAUCCAUUUGAAAUAAUUUAAUAUUUUUAUGAGAUGCAUAUGCAAGAAGAAUUCUAAUUGCUUCUAACCUGGCUACCGGAGCAAAGGUUUCAUCGUAAUCAAUACCUUCUUGUUGAUUGUACCCUUGAGCUACCAAUCUAGCUUUGUUUCUGAUAACUUUUCCUUCUUCAUUUAGUUUAUUUCUAAAUACCCAUCUUGUUCCAAUGAUGGAUUGAUUUUGAGGUUUAGGAACAAGAUUCCAUACUUCAUUCUUUUCAAAUUGAGAGCGUUCUUCUUCCAUGGCUUUUACCCAUGAUUCUUCACAUAUUGCUUCUUGUAUAUUUUUUGGUUCAAUGUGAGAAAUCAUUGCCAUGUUGACAUCAUUAUUCAUAAAUGAUCGUCUUGUUCUUAUUCCAUCAGAUGUGUCUCCAACGAUUUGUUCAGGAGGAUGAUCACCGACGGUUUUCCAGCUUUUUGGAAGAACUUGAGAAGAAUGUUCUUGAGAAUCAUUACUUUCUUUUUGAGGAAUUUCUUCUUCAUCUUCUUUGUUGAUUAUCAAGUCAUCAAACUCAUCAAAAAUAACAUGCAUGCUUAUUUCCAUGGUUUGAUUUUUCAAAUUAUAAAUUCUAUAUCCUUUGGAGUUUGUUGCAUAUCCUAAGAAUAUUCCUUUAUCUGAUUUUGAAUCAAAUUUUCCUAGAUUUUCUUUAUCAUUUAAAAUAUAACAAUAACAUCCAAAAAUAUGAAAAUAUGAGAUGUUAGGUUUUAUAUUUUUCCAGAGUUCGUAUGGGGUUUUGUUUAAAACUUUUCUAAUUGAAACCCUGUUUAUGAUAUAACAAGAAGUAUUUAUGGCUUCAGCCCAAAAGUAUUUUUCUACAUUUGAUUCAUUUAACAUUGUUCUUGCCAUUUCUUGGAGUGUUCUAUUUUUUCUUUCAACAACUCCAUUUUGUUGUGGAGUUCUUGCACAUGAAAAAUUAUGAGAAAUUCCUUUUUCAUCAAAGAAGUUUUUAAAGAAAGCAUUUUCAAAUUCUCCUCCAUGAUCACUUCUUACUGAAAUGAUUUUUGAUUCUUUUUCAUUUUGAACUAAUGUGCAAAAAGUUUUGAAUGCUUCACAAGCUUCAUCUUUAUGUUUUAAAAAUAGAACCCAUGUAUAUCUGGAAAAAUCAUCAACUAUAACAAACCCAUAUUGUUUUCCACUUAGACUGGCGGUUUUAACAGGACCAAAUAGAUCUAUGUGAAGUAGUUCAAGAGGUCUCUUAGUUGAAACAAAAUCAUUUGUUUUAAAACUGCUUUUAACUUGUUUACCUCUUGUACAAGCUUCGCAUAUUCUAUCUUUUUCAAAAUCAAUUUUUGGAAGUCCUCUUACAAGAUCCAGUUUGGCGAUUUUUGAAAUAGUUUUCAUACUUAUAUGUCCAGCUCUUUUGUGCCAAAUCCAUUUAUCUUUUUCAAGUGUCAUAAAACAUGUUUCUGCUGGAAUAUCAUCUAAGUAUAAAGCAUAUAGGUUUUUCUUUCUAGAAGCGGUAAAGAAAAUCUUACCUGAGGAUGUAUGUUUUACAAUACAUGUAUUAGGUUUGAAAAUAACUUCAAAGCCACUAUCACAUAAUUGACUUAUGCUUAGUAGAUUGUGUUUUAAACCUUCAACAUAUUGAACAUCCUCAAUUUUUGCAGAGUCUUUUUUACCAAUAAUACCUUUACCUUUAAUUUGUCCUUUGUCAUUAUUGCCAAAGGUUACUAGACCUCCUUCCUUUUUUGUGAAGGAGAUGAAGCAUUGUUUAUCCCCAGUCAUGUGUCUAGAACAACCACUGUCCAAGUACCAUGGCUUUGUUCUUGCAUCUUGUGAGGAUCCCUGCAUUUUGAGUUAGUGGUUCCUUAGGUACCCAUGAAGAUGUGGGUCCUUUGUGGUUAGUUUCUUUGGUCUCAAGAUGUUUAAUCUUGAGAAAACAGUUUAAUUCUAGAUGACCUAAUCUCUUACAAUAUGAGCAUUCUUUUCUUUUUAAUGAGAAAGAAUGUUCUGGAGAAUGUUCUGAGAUAGAUGGUUCUUCUUUAAUUUCUAGUUUUCUCUUUUUAUGAAAACAGACUGAUUCAUGAUGUCCCCUUUUAUUACAGAAAGAACAUUUUAGUUUUUGUGGUAUAAGAACCUUUUCAUAAAUUUGAUUAAAACCUAAACCAGUUUUGUCAAAUUCUGCCAUUUGUGAACCCACAAUUUUUUGAAAUGUUUCUGUUGAUUUUAUAAACUGUGAAAGAUCAUUUCUAAGUUCUUUGACUUCCUUUUUAAGAAUAACAUUUUCAUUUUUAGAAAUUUCAGGAAGUUUUGUUUUUCCAAAAGCUUUUAAUUUUUCAGCUGCUUGAAAAUAAGAAUCUUGUAGACUUUGAAUGAUUUUCUUUUGAUCAUUAUUCAAAGUUUGAAGUUUCUCUUUUUCUUCUUUUAACUCAGAAAUUUCUUUUUGUAAAGAGUGACAUUUGUUUGUUAAGAAAUUUGAGUCAAAUAAAAGACUAUCAAAUUUAUUUUCUAACUCUUUAUAUACUAGAGGUUGGUUGAUAAGAAUUACCUCUUCGUUUUCUGAAUCUGCCAUUAGAACCAUGUUGGCUUCAGUGUCUUCAUCUUUUGAUUCUUCAAGAUCAUCCCAUGUAAACAUUGAUUUUGAGUAGGGAGAUUUUUUCUGACUCUUUUUGUUUAAUGGACAUUCGUUUUUGUAAUGUCUUAAUUUGUUGCAUCCAAAGCAGGUUACUUGACUUUUGUCAACUUCUCCUUUUGAGUUAUCUUUCUUGUUAGGAAAGUAUUUCUUUAUUUGAUCUCUUCUUCUCAUCAUUCUUUGAAUCUUCUUUGUGAUGAGAGCUAGUUCGUCUUCUGCUUCACCUUGGAUGUUUUCUUCUUCAUUGGUUUCUUUAAUUUCUUCGCUUUGUGAAAAGACAUCUUCUUGUUCACUUUGAGAUGCUUUGAGAGCAACCAUCUUUCCUUUCCUUGAUGGUUUAUCAUCUUGCAGCAGCGUCUCAUGAGCUUUUAAUGACCCAAUGAGAUCUUCAAGAGCUAAAGAGUUUAAGUCUUUAGCUUGUGUGAUUGCAGUUACCAUGGGUCUCCAUGUGCUUGGAAGACAUCUUAAGAUUUUUCUUAUCCGAUCAUGAGUGGUAUAAGUUUUUCCAAGUGAUCUUAAUUCAUUCACAAUAGAUGUGAAUCUGGAGUACAUUUCAUCAAUGUUCUCAUCUUCGUUCAUUUCGAAGAUUUCAAAUUUUCUUACGCCAAUGUCUAUUCUUGUUUCUUUUACAUGGCUAGUUCCUUCAUGAUGAAUUUUUAGAGUGUCCCACACUUCUUUUGCAGUCACACAUUCAUCAACUCUUUCACUUUCUUCCAUGCUUAGUGCGCAUGAUAGAAAGAGUCGAGCUUUAGAGUUUAGAAGUACUUUUUCUUUAUCUUCUUUUGACCAUGAUGCUUCUGGUGUGAGUGUCUCCACCUUUGUUGUUGCAUCGGUUGUCAUAGGUAUGUGUUCUCCAUUUGUGAUUAUUUUCCACAUAUCCACAUCUUGGGAUCUAAGGAAUAGUUCCAUUUUUCCUUUCCAGAAAUAAUAGUUCUUUCCAUUGAAGAAUGGUGGUCUUGUGCAUGAUAGACCUUCUGGUAUAUACUUUUCUUUUGACAUUGCCUUCUUCCUGAAUCUUUUCCUCCAACACUUGUUAGGUGUUUUUGUAGAGCCCGAGCUCUGAUACCAAUUGAAGUAGCAAUAAACGUCACAAGAAAGGGGGGGGGGUUUGAAUUGUGACCCUUUUAAAAAUUAUUCCUGAAACUUAAUUUUAGAUUUAUAUACUCAAGAAUAAUCUUGGUGAAUGUUAGUUUAUCAAGAUUAGAGUAUAUAACAAUUAAUUGAAUUAGAAUAGAACGUUCUGAAGAAUGAUUAUAAACAGAAUGAGAAAAAUGAAGUUAAGUUAAAAGAUUAUUUUAGCAAGGACCAGAAUGUUCUGGAGAUUAAUAAAAUAAUGUGUGUGUGUUGUGUAACUUUAAAUAAAGAGAGAGAGAGAGAGAGAGAGAGAGAGAGAGAGAGAGAGAGAGAGAGAGAGAAAGAGAAAAAUAACACAGGAGAGUUAUCCUGGUUCACCAAACCCGGCUACUUCCAGUCCCCACACCUCGUGUGAGAUUAUCCACUAUAGUUUUCUUGCUAACAGAAACUUCUGACUAGCACUACAAUUUCUUGAUCACACCAGAUCAGUCCGUAACACCUGUAUUAUCAACCUCAGCAGGCUUAUACAAUUCUUUGCACACUAGCAAAAGAAAGGUUGGAAUUUUCUAUCUCAAAACUAUUAAGCCCAAUAGACUUUGAGAAAUACAACACACUUUGUAUGAAGAGAUUUGUUUGGAUAGAAUAAAUACUCAAAUCUUUGUUUGAGUUUUACAAGAGGCAAAUUCAAGAGAGAUGAUCCAAGAGAUAUAGUGAGAGAGCUUGGAAUUUGCUUUGUAUGUGAAGAGCUUUGUUUGUAGUGAUGAUUUUCACUUUGAGAGAUAUUAGCUUUCAAAACUCUUGCUUAUGACCUUCAAAGGCCCUUGUAUUUAUAGGUGAGGAGUGUCUUGGUGACCAAGGGAGAAAAUAGAGCUGUUGGACACGUUUUUGAUAGCUGUCCAAAGUCUCAUUUGAUUUCUCUUUUCUUCUUAAAAAUAGCCAGAACGUUCUCAGAAUGUUCUUUCUGAUUUGCCUGACUUUGAAAGCACUGUUGCUUUGCUUGCGCAUGAGAUAACCAGCUGUAAUGAGCUGUAUAACUUGCAGCCCACUUCUGAUGAUGUCAUGUCCUUUUGCUCUAGUGAUGUCAUGCUUAAGUAAGCCAUGUGAUCUUAUCCAUUUAAUGGGCUUUACUUUUCCAAAUGGGCUUAAAGCUUUUCUUAUGGCCCAAUAGACAUAAUCAGCCAAGCUUUCUUGCUGUGCAGACUUGUUCGCUUUUGAUGUACUGUUCCUUUUUCAUCGUUUUCGCCAGAACGUUCUCAUUUCAUUCUCAUGAAACAAAUUCUCACAAAAACGAAUUAGUAGAUAACAAGAUUAAAUAAAUAUAAUAUGUUUGUAAUCUUUAAAACAUCAAAUAAGGAUUUUGUCUCAACAAUCUCCCCCUUUUUGAUGAUGACAAACAUUUAUAAUUUAUUUUGAUUUUGAUUUUGAGUUUUUGAAAAAUUUGUUAAAAACUCCCCCUCAAGUUUAGCAACCAAAAUUUUGUGCCAUUUUGAGAGUUUUCCAGAAUUUGUUUAUGGACAAUUGAGUUUGAUAAUUUUAUCAAAGAACUCCCCCUCAAUUCAUGCAUUCAAGAUUUAAUAUGCAAAAUGAGAAUAUAGAACAUAAACAACAUAAUUCAUAAAUCAUGAAGAUCAUUACAAGGUAUCAAACCUAGCAUUUCAAAACAUCAAAAAGCAUUGUUCAUAUGCGCACAUACUAGCAGCAAUUUGAUCCUUAGUUAAUCAUGAUCAAAAGACAUAAACAGAGAAAUAAAAACAGAGUUUUUUUUAAACAUCAAAAUACUUAAACAUAAACAGCAGCAUAGUGAUCUAUUCUUCCCUAGAUCCUAACUGUUUUCCUGGUCCUCCUAACUCAUAAUCCCCUAAAUCAUCUCCCCCUUUGUCAUCAUGAAAAGGGGCAGCAGCAGCAGUAGGUGGAAUGGUUGGAGAAGAAGCAUCAGAUGAUGAAGAGAUAGUAGGCAUGAACAUGGGAUACAUAGGAACUGGGAAUGGGUUUUGUUCUGGUCUAGCAAACUCAUUCUUGUCACUUAUGGAGUCCUUCCACUUCCUUGACAGAGACAUUUCAAAAGUCAUCCAAGACAGAUAAUGCAAAAUUGCAUUGUUCCCUUCAAUUACCCUAGUCAAGUCACUGCGUGUCUUGCUGCAGUCUUUCUCAACCUUGGACCUUUUGGUUGGCCUUUCAUUGUGCUCAAAAAUCCUUUGCGCCAUUGAAGGAGAUUCAUUGAAUCUUGAAGGAAAGGAGAGAUUAGUUUGAAGAGACUUAAGGGAAUCCAUUUGGACAGAUGAAUCAAAAGCUUGUGGAGCAAAUAAUUUGUCCACUGAAUCACAUUGAAACAAAGCAGAAUAAUCAUGCUUUUGAGGAGAGAUAAACAAUUUUGAAGGUUUUGUGAUUAUGGUUUUUUCAGUGAAACUUUGAAGAAUUUCUGAAGCUUUGACUUUUGACAGAGAAGCAUGAUUGCCAAAGUUUUCAAGCAGUUCCUGAUCUUCCUCCAUCACAGGAGAACGUUCUGAAGAACGUUCUGGAGGAUUGCAGUGUUCAUCAGAAGCAUUUUAUGGAACUGGAUUCUGCAGAUCAGGCCCAUCUUCCCUCUUUCUUUUGAGGUCAGAAGGAGGCUCAUCAACAGGUUCCUGCUUCAUGUGACUCAGAUUUUUUGGAGUAAAUUGAGAAUACUCAAAAACAGAUUUUUCACCUUCAAAAGGAAUAUGAUUCUUAAUGAAGAUUUUGGUAAGAGCCAUUCCAUAAGGAAGACAAGAUUUUUUGUUACGAGACUGAAUAACAUUGAUCAUGUUAUGAAUAAUGAUAUGAGGCAGACUCAAUUUUUCUUUCAUUAAGAGAUGAUACAUGACCAAGAGAUCAUUUGAACUAACAUGUUGAAAAUUACCAUUUCUAGGCAAGACACAAUGUUGGCUUAUGCCAUUCAACAUUUUUGGGGUUGGCAGAAGGUUCGAAGACACAAACUCAGUGACAUUUGGUUUGAAAAGGAGUUUGUAAACAUUUUCAGAAUUGACUUCAAGUUUUUCAAACCAAUCAUCACCAAAGACAGUUUGACCAUAAUUUGAGAUACCAAGAGUAUCAGAGAUUACCUGUGGAGUGAGACGUAUCUCAACAUCCUUAAUCCUAGACACUAUUAAGCUUUCCUCAGGGUAUGCUUCUGCCAUGAAAUAGAAAGCUUGGACAAGCUUUGGGUAGUGUCUCUCACGAAGCUGUAGAAAUUUGGUCCAGCCUUGCUCAUCAACAUACUCCUUAAGAACGACUUUGUCUUUUUCCAGCUUGACAAAAUCAUAAUACCUUCCAAUUCCAAUUGACCUAUUUCCCCAUUUUUCUUUGAAAUCCUUUUUCAGAGAAGGAUCAAACAGAGGUACUCUCUUUCCUGUAGAGAUAUGAAUGAUCUUCUGUUUUGAAGGAUUUUUGGGCUUUGGAGAACAUUCUGGAGAAUAAUCUGAAGAGAGUUCAUAGUCUUUAUCAGAAAGACUUUCUGAAGAACGUUCUGGAGAACGUUCUGGUUGAGCAGUUUGCUUCUGCUUUCCUUUGUCCUUCACAGUUGGUUUAGGCUUUGGUUUUGGUACAGAAACCUUGAUAGGAGGUUUAGAGACCUUUUUGUUACUCUUAGGUUUGGGCUUAAGAGGAGAAGGAGUUUUCUCAGCCAAAGGGGUAGUUGGUUCAGUUUCUUCAUCUGAAUCAGAGAUUUCAUGUACAGUUGUGUCUACACUGUUGGUUUUCUUUGUUCCAACUGCAGAANNNNNNNNNNNNNNNNNNNNNNNNNNNNNNNNNNNNNNNNNNNNNNNNNNAAAUAAUAUAAAUCAAGUAGGGGAGGGGGUGGGUGGUGUGGGGUUAGAAGAAAAGAAUAUUUUUUUUUUUUUUUGUUUUUUUUUGAAAAAUUUUUGCCCCAUUAUAAAAAAACCCCUUGUUUUGUCUUUGAUUUGUUCUUUAUUUUUUUUUUUUUUUUUUUAAAAAGAAUUCUCCCCAUGAUAAAAAAAUGUUUUUUGGAGUGGAGGGAGGUUUUUUUUUAGAGUUUUUUUUUUUUUAAAGGACACUUUGGUUUUUGUUAAAGUUUUUAAAUUUUUGGGCAUCCCAAAACCAGGGUAACUUGACCUUUUUUCAAAUUUUUUCCUUUUGGAGUUUUUUUUUUUUUUUUAGGGAAAAGUAUUUUUUUUAUUUUGAUUUUUUUUUUUUCCAUCAAUUUUUGAAAUCUUUUUUUGGGAGAAGAGCUAUGUUCUUUUUUUGGCUUCCCCUUGGAUGUUUUUCUUUUUCAUUGGUUUCUUUAUUUCUUCGCUUUGUGAAAAGACAUCUUCUUGUUCACUUUGAGAUGCUUUGAGAGCAACCAUCUUUCCUUUCCUUGAUGGUUUAUCAUCUUGCAGCAGCGUCUCAUGAGCUUUUAAUGACCCAAUGAGAUCUUCAAGAGCUAAAGAGUUUAAGUCUUUAGCUUGUGUGAUUGCAGUUACCAUGGGUCUCCAUGUGCUUGGAAGACAUCUUAAGAUUUUUCUUAUCCGAUCAUGAGUGGUAUAAGUUUUUCCAAGUGAUCUUAAUUCAUUCACAAUAGAUGUGAAUCUGGAGUACAUUUCAUCAAUGUUCUCAUCUUCGUUCAUUUCGAAGAUUUCAAAUUUUCUUACGCCAAUGUCUAUUCUUGUUUCUUUUACAUGGCUAGUUCCUUCAUGAUGAAUUUUUAGAGUGUCCCACACUUCUUUUGCAGUCACACAUUCAUCAACUCUUUCACUUUCUUCCAUGCUUAGUGCGCAUGAUAGAAAGAGUCGAGCUUUAGAGUUUAGAAGUACUUUUUCUUUAUCUUCUUUUGACCAUGAUGCUUCUGGUGUGAGUGUCUCCACCUUUGUUGUUGCAUCGGUUGUCAUAGGUAUGUGUUCUCCAUUUGUGAUUAUUUUCCACAUAUCCACAUCUUGGGAUCUGAGGAAUAGUUCCAUUUUUCCUUUCCAGAAAUAAUAGUUCUUUCCAUUGAAGAAUGGUGGUCUUGUGCAUGAUAGACCUUCUGGUAUAUACUUUUCUUUUGACAUUGCCUUCUUCCUGAAUCUUUUCCUCCAACACUUGUUAGGUGUUUUUGUAGAGCCCGGGCUCUGAUACCAAUUGAAGUAGCAAUAAACGUCACAAGAAAGGGGGGGGGGUUUGAAUUGUGACCCUUUUAAAAAUUAUUCCUGAAACUUAAUUUUAGAUUUAUAUACUCAAGAAUAAUCUUGGUGAAUGUUAGUUUAUCAAGAUUAGAGUAUAUAACAAUUAAUUGAAUUAGAACAGAACGUUCUGAAGAAUGAUUAUAAACAGAAUGAGAAAAAUGAAGUUAAGUUAAAAGAUUAUUUUAGCAAGGACCAGAAUGUUCUGGAGAUUAAUAAAAUAAUGUGUGUGUGUUGUGUAACUUUAAAUAAAGAGAGAGAGAGAGAGAGAGAGAGAGAGAGAGAGAGAGAAAAAUAACACAGGAGAGUUAUCCUGGUUCACCAAACCCGGCUACUUCCAGUCCCCACACCUCGUGUGAGAUUAUCCACUAUAGUUUUCUUGCUAACAGAAACUUCUGACUAGCACUACAAUUUCUUGAUCACACCAGAUCAGUCCGUAACACCUGUAUUAUCAACCUCGGCAGGCUUAUACAAUUCUUUGCACACUAGCAAAAGAAAGGUUGGAAUUUUCUAUCUCAAAACUAUUAAGCCCAAUAGACUUUGAGAAAUACAACACACUUUGUAUGAAGAGAUUUGUUUGGAUAGAAUAAAUACUCAAAUCUUUGUUUGAGUUUUACAAGAGGCAAAUUCAAGAGAGAUGAUCCAAGAGAUAUAGUGAGAGAGCUUGGAAUUUGCUUUGUAUGUGAAGAGCUUUGUUUGUAGUGAUGAUUUUCACUUUGAGAGAUAUUAGCUUUCAAAACUCUUGCUUAUGACCUUCAAAGGCCCUUGUAUUUAUAGGUGAGGAGUGUCUUGGUGACCAAGGGAGAAAAUAGAGCUGUUGGACACGUUUUUGAUAGCUGUCCAAAGUCUCAUUUGAUUUCUCUUUUCUUCUUAAAAAUAGCCAGAACGUUCUCAGAAUGUUCUUUCUGAUUUGCCUGACUUUGAAAGCACUGUUGCUUUGCUUGCGCAUGAGAUAACCAGCUGUAAUGAGCUGUAUAACUUGCAGCCCACUUCUGAUGAUGUCAUGUCCUUUUGCUCUAGUGAUGUCAUGCUUAAGUAAGCCAUGUGAUCUUAUCCAUUUAAUGGGCUUUACUUUUCCAAAUGGGCUUAAAGCUUUUCUUAUGGCCCAAUAGACAUAAUCAGCCAAGCUUUCUUGCUGUGCAGACUUGUUCGCUUUUGAUGUACUGUUCCUUUUUCAUCGUUUUCGCCAGAACGUUCUCAUUUCAUUCUCAUGAAACAAAUUCUCACAAAAACGAAUUAGUAGAUAACAAGAUUAAAUAAAUAUAAUAUGUUUGUAAUCUUUAAAACAUCAAAUAAGGAUUUUGUCUCAACAAUUAUAACAUUACGAAUGAGGUUACAUUUUAAGAUGCAAGAUUGCCGUAAUUUAACAAUCCAAAGUGAGUAAUCAAACAGACACGCGAGACUAAUUAUCACAUUAUGAACGACGAUCAGAUUUUAAGAUGCAAGUAUCGCAUGUCUGUUUCAUUACUCACUACUUUUCCUUAUGUGUAAACUUUUCAAGGCUACGGUGACACCGCAAUUCAAAAUAUGCAAGAAGUACUGAAAUUUGGUCGAAACGAUAUAUUUUAAUAUGCAGCAAUGAUCUCAUUAAAAAAACCAAGACGAGCUUUGAAAACAAACAUGUGAUAGAUAUUAUAACAUUACGAAUGAGGAUACAUUUUAAGAUGCAAGAUUGCUGCAAUUUAACAAUCAAAAGUGAGUAAUGAAACAGACACGCGAGACUACUUAUCACAUUAUGAACGACGAUCAGAUUUUUUGAAUGCAGCAAUGCCGCUUUUUGAAAAAUCUGAUACACUACUUUUCCUUAUGUGUAAACUUAUAAAGGCUACGGUGACACCGCGAUUCAAAAUAUGCAAGAAGUACUGAAUAUUGGUUGAAACGAAAUAUUUUAUUAUGCAGCAAUGUGAAAUUUAAAAAAACCAAGAUGCAGCAAUGCCGCUUUCAAAAAACUCUAAUUGUGUUUUGAAACAAACACGUGAUAAUAUAUUCGACAGUAUAAUACAUUCCGUUGUAUUGAAACAUCUGGUGUAAAAUAAUAUCUACUAUGAUAAUAUAUAUUUUCAACGACUGACAACACAUUAUAUUAUGUAUAAAAGAAAUAACCUUUAAACAUACACGGAUACACGUUAAAGUAAAAGUAUGAAGGUUCCUCUGACACCGCAAUUCAAAAUAUUCGCACAGCAAAGAAAUUAGAUUCCGUCAACAAUGACAAAGUUGUGAGCAUUUAAGUAAGAAACUCAACAAAAAGUGAAAUGCAGCAAUGCUGCUUUCAAAAAACUCUAAUUGUGUUUUUCAUAGAAUCAUACUCCCUUAAAAUAGGUUUCAACGAAAGGUCAGACAUACCAGAUAAACUGUGCAAAGCUUUGCGAGUAUUCUCUGCAACAUCAUUAUCCAUUCUGUUUCGUUUGAUCCACCUUGACUACUAAUUAGCCGUAACAAUAAGUUUUUUUGCAGAGAGAACAGAUGUGUAAGUAUGAGCCUCCAAAUGAUAUGUAAACCAAUGAAUUACCGCAUAAAUAGACAUUAAUGCGAUUUGGGUAACAACAAUUCUGAAUUAAUGACAUGACUUUGAAGCUGAACAGACACGUCCAAACAUUGAAUCAAAAAGAUCGUGAAACAAAGCAUGGGAAAACACUAUAUGAAUCUCUUCCAUAAUGCAAUCAAAGAGAAGUAUAUGACAAUUAAUACUAAUCAUAUAUCUUAUCUGUAACAUCAGCAGAAAUGAUGUUUUUUUUUGUAUAUCUGAGCAUCUUGAUAACUAAAAACGCACAUCUGACCGCAAUAAACCUACCCAAUUAUCAUACUGCUGAUGGAUUAGCAAUUUAAGGAAACACAUCAAUCUAAAAAUAUAAUGAGAUCAUCUGAUUAUAAAGGUUGUUACAAUUUUAUUAGGUGCAUUUGACUAAUAUCAUUGCCGAUUCCAUCAUUAUUAUUUAUCUAUCAAGAAAACGCCGUUGCUACAAAGCAAUAUAUUAAUAACAACAACGCCGCGUGUAGCAUUGUAUUCGUCUGUACACAAUAGGAGGUGAAUACUGCAUCUUAAUUUGUUUAUUCAAUAAAGAAGUUGUGCCAUUACAGGGAUUAAAAAAGAAAAAAGCACCAUUGCAUUAUCGGAAUAACCCACACCUUUUGAAUUACAUAAGACUGAUUUUCUAUUUUGCCUACCAGAACUUGCAAUACUAAAAAUGCAAAAUUUAAAAGAAUCUAAUAUAGAGCAUUAUUCACUUCUAAACAUCACACCCUUCUUAAUGAAAAAAAGAAAAAAAAAAUGAUGCAUUCAAACAAAAUAUGAAGCAUAAGUCUGCCACGCCACCACUAAAACUCAUCCAAACGUUGCACAUUGUUAAGAAGAUCAGUUGCGAAUCACACGAAGGUAGAGAGUUGUGUUGCUUCCAGCCAUUGGAGCACCAAGAACUAAUCGGGAACCUUGGCGAAGCCUGCGUGCCAUAACCAAUCUCUUCCAGCCACCUCCGAUUAUGAAAUGAGGUCCGCCAUCAGUAGCAAACAUCAAAGUACAGCCCCACACAUUGCCAUUGUCAUCAAAGUAAAGCGAAUAAAGUAAGUUUGUUUACUGUCAAAUGCAUAUAAAUAUAAUUACUCACGUUAAUAAAGUUAAGCUCGACUGUGUAAGUUCUAUACUUGAUACGAAGAUCAUUGACAAUCCUUUCCAAUUCAGAAUUCGGAUUAGGGUUCAGAGGUGCUGUUAUAAAAAAACAACAAAAAAGAAACAUAAGUGAGUUGUACAAAACUGGAAAUAACAACAUCAAAUGAUGGAAACUUAUACCUAUCAAAGCAUGGUAGGAAAGCAGUGCCUGGAUUCCAUUAUUUGCCAUGGGAUUCGAUUGAACUUGAAAAAGAAUGAGAUGUGAUUUUUUUGAUUCCAUGGUAUGGUAUAUAUACACGUUCAGAUUCAUUCACUAUGAUAAGGAGGUUAUGAUACCUAUACAUUGUUAUCAUAUCAAAGGCUUUGGAAUCAAUAACAACAUUAAAUGCAAUCAUGGAAUGGGGGAAGCCACAACCAAAAGCGUUAAAUGUAAUUAGCAUGGGGAAACUGAAAGUGCCAAGUCAAAUGAGAUCAAAGGAUGAGAUGAAUGCUUAGCUAGCUCAUUUGAUCAAACGGCUCUCCUUAAUUGGCGCCCAAAAUGGCUAGGUUUAGGGUUUUGCAAGGUAAUUAGCAUUGUUAACAAAGAUUAGAUAUAAGUAUGAUAAGAUAAGAUAAGAUAUAUUGAAUUUUAAUAAAUUUUUAAUUUUUAAAAUAAGAGAGGGCCUAAGCCCAAGAAAAAAACUACACUAAAAGUACAUAAAAUUGCUUUUCUUACUGCAAAAACUUUCUAAUAACACAUGAAAGUUACUAAAUUGUCCAUAGAAGUAGUUAACUACCAUUGGCAAGUCCGACAUCAGUUAAUUACCACUGACUCCCAACUGCAGUUAACUACCGCUGGCUCAUCUGCACUUAAGUUCGGUUCCUAGCAGAGCAUCAAUUGUGAUUAUGCGCGUUUCGGUCGAAAAAAAUAAAAAAAUCGAGACUUAUUUGGAAUGUUACGGAACAUUCCACAUCCUCUAUAUGUAUUUUUACAGAGGUGUCUAUAAAUUUGGUAACAUUCCGACUAAGUCUCGAUAUAUUUUGAUUUUUUGACCGAACCGUGCAAAAUCACAAUUUUUUUCAAGUUCGAGUCCGGAAAAGUGACCUAGACGUUGAAUUUUUUCAUGAUUUUUUGCACUCAUGUUUAGGACAAAAAAGAACAUCUCCCACAAAAAUUUUGAACUUUUUCGACAAUGGACGAAUCCUUUAUAUCUAAUCCUAGCAAACAUGCAAACCCUAAUUCCACAAUCCUAAACCUAAAAAAUUGGCUCCCAAAUUUGAAAUUUGAAUUUCAUAUUGGAAAACCAAUGCACACUACUCAAUACAUAUCUUAAGGGCUAGGAUUAAAUGCGACUAAUACCUCAAAUUCGUCCUUGAAUUUUAAAAAAUCGGUCAAAUUCGUCCCUGAAUUUUGCGAAAUAUCUAUUUAGUCCCUGAAUUUACAAAAUAUCAAUCAAAUCAGUCCCUCUGUUAAGUUGGUCUGUUUACGGAGGUGACGUGUAACGUUAACCUCUUACAAGGCUUACCAUGUCAGAUGUCACGCAAGCAGGGACCAAAUUGAUUGAUUUACAGAAAAUUGUCAAGGACCAAAUUGAUGGAUUUUCAGAAAAUUGCCAACGUUUCCAAGGACCAAAUUGAUGGAUUUUCAGAAAAUUCCCAACGACUCUUUCUCCCGUUUCUCAUUAAAGAAUCUUUCUCCUCUUCCUCAUUAACGGCUCUUUCUUCCCCAAAUAUAUAAAUUUGGAACCCUAAUGUUAUAAUUUGUUACCUAGAGUUCAAAAUCCCCCAAAUUUCUUCCAUGACUUGAUGUCAAUGUUCUUCCCAAUUAAAUAAACUUAACACCCUAAUUUUUUUGAUUCAAUUCGAAAUUCAAAAACCAAUGGUCAUUGUUGAAGAUUCGGUGUUCAGAAAUGAUGGGUAGUGGGCGUAUGGGCAAAAAAAACUACAAUAGUCAGUCUUCAUCUUCAAGCUCUAUGUACAAUGAUAAGGUGAGAGAGCUUCAAUGUUGCUGACCUAGAAUUUGUGUUGUAAGAGAAGCCAACACUGUCAAUAACCAAGGAAGGCCUUUCUAUAUCUUCCCUCUGCCAAAGGUUUGUUUAACAAUGGUUAUGUGAUGUGUAAAUGGUUUGUUUAAGAUAUUCAUAGGAGUAUUUUGUUUGAUUGAGUUGUUUAAAAUGAUAUUGUAUUGUGCCAAGUCCAUGUAAUGUUGUAAUGAAAAGAGGUUGUCAAUGAAUGAAUCAAACCCUUCUGUCAAAAAAUUUCAAUCAAAUUGGUCCUUGAAUUAUAUGCAUAUCCAUCAUAUCGAUCCUAAAAUUAGUGAUAAUACCAUCAAAUAGGUCCUUGAAUUUUCACAACAGAUAUCACUGUGAUCCUUGGUGCAUAUAUUUGCUGAACAAAGUAAAAAGUAAAAGACAUGCACUUUGACUAUAAAAAGACAGACAUUUGCAUACCAUCAUAAGUCAUAUAUUUGAUGUUCAUAAGUCAUUACAUAGCCAAAAAAAUAACAUUACAUAGCCAUAAAGUCAUCAAAUCGUUUGAUGUUCUUAAGUGAUUACAUAUCUGUUAUCACGAUUUUGGGGUAUCAAGUCAUUAAUUAGGCUUGAACCUUUCAAUCUUUGAUAUUCUCUAUUUUUUCUUGGGAAGGGAAAAAUUGAGAAAACCCUUAGAAAUUCUAAGUUCGGGGGUCGUUUUCGUUACGGGAAGGUGUUAGGAACCCGCAAUGACUAUAGUACUCUAUAGGAACCGUUUUCUUAGUUUUAUGUCUACGCUUUAUUUUUAAUGCUAUUUAUUGAAAAAAGAAGUUGUUUAUUUAGGUUAAGAAUGGAGGGAGAAAAUGUUUGGGAUUUUAUUUAUUGGACUUGGAGAGGUUUUGACCUCUUGCCUACAUACCCUUUUAAGGGAUCAAAAUUCCAUGUAGUUCUCUUUAAAAAAUGUUUUUGUGUGUUUGAUUGAUUUUAAGUUUUGGAAAAUGGUUUUGAAGAAGAGAAAGAGGCCGUAAAGGCAUGAGAGAAAAAAAUGGUGAAAGGUUGGUUCAAUUAUUAUUAAAAAAGGUCUAAGUUGGAAUUAGAGUUCAUUUGAGUUUGAUUAAGAAAAUAAAGGGAAAAUUCAAUGGAGUUUUGACUCCAAGGUUUAUUUGGAAAUUUUUUUCAAGUGAUGGAAUUUGCUUAUUUUGGAAAAUUGAUAUUUUUCUAAGUAUCGCGUUUCCUAAGCAUACAUCUAAAGCGGUAAACAUACAACGUGUGUGCGUGUCGGUGCUUGUGUCGGUGUACAUCAUUAGAGAGUCCAUUGUCCGUUACAUUGGCCCUAGUUUACAUUCUAUGGUCUUGCAAGAAAUUAAAAGGAAAUUUAAACUACCUAAAAUAUUAUAUGACAUUUUAACAUAGAAAUUAAAAGGUAAAAAUGCCUAAACUAUGAGAAAUUGAGAUGAAAAAGGUAGAAUGCUUAUGAGGUGAAUGAAACAAGAAAUAAAAUGGUUAGUAAAAUAAGGUGUAAAAUGAUAGGAAACAAGCAAGGAAACAUUGAAUGGAAUAGCAAAAAAGAGAGUAAUAAAGUGGUAAAAUAUGCCCAAAACUUGUCAUAAUACCUAAACAUGUACACGACCUAUAAUUCUCUCAUCAUAGCAAUUUAAAAGGGGGUUUAUUUUAUACCAUAAUGUGAGAAUGACAAGAACACAUUCAAGCCAAGAAUUAUGACAUAUUUCUAGAGAUACUUUGCACUUUAUUUCUUGACAAAAACACACAUUACUUGCAAAACAAGAAAAAAAGAAAAAUUCACAUCCACAAACAGUAAAACACACAUAUGAUCAGAGACAUAUUCAUCAUGAAAUUGCAUAUUAACCACUCAUAUCAUGUCAAGACCUCAUGAACGAAUUAUGGCAAGAAAAUUCACAAGUUUAAUAAAAAAAAAUGAACAUAUCAACAAGAAAAUGUUACAUAUAUUUUUUUAUCAUUUUUUAACAUGUAAAAGCAUCACAAAAGUAUUAAAAAUACCUCAAGAAACAUAUAGGAAUUUUUAGGAAUUUUUUGCACGAAAAUUGGACGAGCAGGGGGUUCAGAUAGCAAGAAACAGGGUGCAAAUAGCAAGAAAUAAGAAAAAAAAAGCAGAAACAAACAAACUGGAAGCCCAAGCCCAAAACCCAUGGAUCCGGAUGCACAAGGAGCGUUGGAUUGAUCCAGGAAGAGAAACCCUAGAUCUAAAGGCUCAGAAUGAAGGGGAAGAACCGGGAAUAAACCCGACCGGUUCAGUUGUUUAUAAAAAGGCUUGGGGACCGGUUUUUUUCAUUUCUUCCUCUCCUUUCUCUCUCUUCUCUCAUUCUAGUGAGAGAAGCUCUCACUUCUCUCCUUUCUGAUGAAUUAGGUUCUGGAAAAGUUAGGGUUUUCUGAAUGUUCUUGGUAAUUUUCUGUUUUGAUCUAACUAAAUGGAGAGAGAAAAUGUGAUUCUGUUUUUGGUGAUGUGACUGAUUCUGUGGAUCCUUUCUGAUUUGUGCAGUGAAUGCACCUUUUAUAGGCUGCCAUGUGUGAUUCUGAACCAAUGGAAGAGGAACACCUGUUUUGGACUUAGGGACUUUCCUGCAAAAAUAAGAAAAUUGGAGGACUGGACUGCAAAUAAGAAAAAGGACCUAAAAAUGCAAUUUUAAAAAGUAUUGGACUAAAAUGUAAUUUGGAAAAAACGUAAAGUGAAACCAAAAAUAAAAUCAACAAAAGGACUAAAAUGAACCAGUUACAAAAAAUGAGGUAUUUUAAAAUACCUCUCUGUCGAAAUUUUGACAGGAAAAGACCAAAAAUACCCCUAGGGACUAAACUGACUCAAACUGACUCAGAUGCAAUUUUUGAAAUGGUUUUUAAACAGAGAUUCAACAAUGAUUUGUACAGACAAGUUGAAAAGACUCAGAGGCAAACACAGGGACUAAAAUGGGUUCCAAUGCGGGAAAUGACCAAAAUACCCUUUUUGUAUGAUUUUUUGAAAUAAAAUGCAAGAAAAGCAAUGCAAUGAUUCAGAGAGUUUUCAAAUGACUUGUAAUGCAAGAAAGACACUUUGGGUAGUUUUAUUCAAGAAAAUCAUGAUUGAACAUACUUCGAGACAGAGACAGUAAAAUAUGCAGAUGAAAAGAGAGUAAAGGUUCGGAGUAAAAUAAUAGUAAAUUGACAAAUAUCAGUGUUGAAAAAGAAAUUUGAAUGAGUAUUUUUAGGUCCAAAAUCAGGGUAUAACAAUAUCCAAAAAAGCAUAAACUAAACAAGUCCAAAAAGCAUAAUUUAAACAAGCAUCAAUGCUUUGGAAAUCCUGAAGUUGGGUAUAAACUCCAUGUAUUGGGGUUGAGUAGAAGCGGAUGACCCGUAAUUUGGAUUUGGAACUCUAAUAACUCUAGGAGUAGUUAGAUUUUGUGGAGCAAGACCCCUCAAUGAUGUUUGUUUAUGCAUGUCAUUUGAAAUCACAGGUCAUCUCAUGCCAUAUCUUCUUGUACUCAUUCUCUGCAAAUAAAAUCAAUCAUAUCCGUCCUUAAAUUAUAACAAAAUCCAUCAAAUUAGUCCUCAAAUUAUGUCAGUAAGUCUCAAAUCGAUCCUUAUGUAAUAGCGGGGUAUAAUUGGAACACAUGAAAAAUUACACUGAAAAGUUAAAUCUCAAAUUUUUACCAUUUCCAUCAAAUUAGUCCUUGUACACGUGGUUGCCUUGUUGACACGUGUACAUGACAACACAACAUGCAAGAGGACACGUCAUCACCACUAACGGAGCUUUUGGACGGAGGGACCAUUUUGAUGGACGUCUGUAAAAUUCAAGGACUAAAUAGAUAUUUCGCAAAAUUGAGAGACGAAUUUGACCAAUUUUUUAAAAUUCAAGGACGAAAUUGAGGUAUCAGUCCAUUCAAUGUUAUACAAAAGUCUGAAAAAUAAAACACACAACACACGCGUUCCUUUUUCCCAGUGUUUUCUUCUUCUUCUUCCUCUUAUCAUCAUCACCACCGCCAACCCUCUCCCUCAAUCCACCGACGUUCUACCCCGUAUGUUCCAUGUCUUUUCUACUUUAACCGUCAUAUUUCUCCUCUCAUACUUCGCCGUCGUCGAUUCCACUGCCACUUUCUUUCCAUCGCCACGGGAAUAAUGAGAUUAAGCGCGAGAGUGAUCGACCUAAACUUAUUCCCUCUCUCCAGGUACUCAAUCUGUUAACUUUGAUGUUAGUUCAUACAAAUUUGCAUGUAACAAAUUUGUAUAAGAACAGGCAUAGACUUCUUAACCAAUCAAAUAAACUGCUCAAUCAAAGCUUACUCAAUUUUAUUGUAAAAGAAGAAAUAGAAAAUUUAGGUGGUUUGAAAUGUAAGAUCCAACAUAUGUUAGAUAUGAAAUUACUGUUGUGCUUUGAUGAUUUUUUCUCCUGAUUCCAAAAAUAUAGUUUUAAGCCAAUUUAUGGCAUUGAGUGAUUUGAUUUUCUGUUUCUUUUUUGUCUCAUUGGUUCUAAGUUGGAUGAGAAAUUAGUGGCCACAGAAAGAAGAAUGAAAUAUAAGUUAAUUAACAUUUUUUCAAUAACUUUGAAUUUUUGCUGAUUUUUCUUUAACUAUUGUUUUCUAAUACCAUUUGAAGUAGUCGUUUUUAUUAGAUUAUGUCAUUGCUACAAAAUUUUCUCUAUAUGGGUUCAUGUUGAUUUUGAAAUGAUUGCAAAUUUGUGUAUAAGCAUCUGUAUGCAAACCUCUCUUUUAAGAGCACUAUUUUUUGUUCCGGCUUUGUGUUUUUUGCGGAUGUGCUUAUGAUUUGUGCAGCUACAGGUUUGUUACUUACAGAGCUUUCCAAAUGUGGUAUGUUGCUUUGUUCAUUUAGUGGUUGAGAAUGAAAUUAGUUUGCACUCCCUGAGAAAAUAGCUCUCUAAACUGAAGUUCCCAUAAUCUCUUAUGAUCAUUGUACACACCAAAUCUCUUACCCUAAGUCAAAUUUACUGUACUGAGUAGAAAUUAUCUAUUCUUUCAUUAAUAUUGAAAAAUCUUUCAUCCCUUCAACAUUGUUUCUGAGUAUGAUGUUACCAGUGAAUUUUUGGUAUGUUCCUUACCAAUUCACAUUUUUUAUUGUUACUUUUAUUGGACAAAAUUACUUCUUGCGUCUAUUCUUCCCUGAUUCAUAGAAGUUGUUCUACAAUGGUUUUUGUGAAUUUGCAUUGGAUAAGAGGACCACGGCCAUGGUGGUCAUAGCACAAUUGCGACAACAAGUGGAAUUGCACUCUUAUUUUUGGAUCUAUGUCAUACAAUCAUAAUUGGUGGUGGUGAGUGGAAGAGCAUGAUUGAGUGCAGAAUUUUUGAAGGUGUACGUUUCAAGCUGGGUGAUCAGAUGGUCGGCAAAAGUGAAAUUGUUUACCUUCAUGUCUAUCGAGAUUUCAGUUUUUAAGCUGGGGUCUUCAUAUGAAUUUCCAUUUUGAAUAUUGUUUCUAUUGUAAUCUGCCAAUUAUCAGAAUUGUGUUAGAUAAGUUUGAGUCUAAUGUGUUCAGCUCCACUGUGUAAUCUGUUUCUGUAUUUCAUUUUCAAUAGAAUCCAAUUAAAACAACUUAUUCUGCUUGCUUAAUUAUCAUCUCCAAUCUGCACAAGUAAUACUAUAAACAGGGUCAUAUUAUUCUAUUGAAAUUGAAAUACGGAAACAUAUUACAAAGAAAAUGACUAAAGGCGGUGUAUAAAGAAGUUUUUCGCAAUUUAUGAAUUGUUCGGUGCUGAUGAAAUAAAGGUGUUGCCGUUUUGUUAGUCUGCCAUCGAUGUAAGUAUGUACUGUAUUUAUAUUAGUCGUUAAUAAAUGUCUUAAUAAUGGUCGUCAAACCUAACCCAUCAGUGUGUUGCUUAAUUUGUUUUUACAGAUUUGUUUGACCUGACUGUAGCAUUUGCCAUCAUAUCUGAAACGCAUAAAUUCAUGUUUUACUGUAUACUCGGUGAUCAAUCCUUCUGUCUAUAUGAAAAGGCUUGAUGUAUACUGGUACGGUGAUUAAAUUUUCGCAUAAAUCAGUUCUUCUCAUAUUAUAAAUAACUUAUAAUAAGGAUUGCAGCAACUAAUGCUUCAAUUUUAUGCUGUCUUUGUUUUUCUUCGCAGGUUGAGCACAAUUAAGGCAUUGCAUUUUUGGAGAUCGUUAUCAUUGUUAUACCAUUAUUAUCUUUGCUAAUAUAUGCUCCUAAUUGUUUAAGAAUUUCAUCUCUGGUCCAUACUGACGGUUUAUUACUGAUAUCAAUGGCACCAAUCUCAAUUGAUACUAUGUAUCACAUUAUCACCAACAAAGGUGUAACUUGGUUAUCAUUAUGAUCCAUUUCUGAUUCCGUAAUUAUACUAUAUCCAAGUUCGUUGUUAACUUAUUACAAAUAAUUUGUCGUUUAGAAGAAUAUUAACCACAAAUUACUCAUAGUGAUUUAUCGUUAUGAAAAUACAUAUAGAGAAUAUGAAAAUUUACGUAGUAUAUUGACUGAGCCUCAAUUUAUUUUGAAUUUUUCACCGAAACACAUAAAAUCACAAUAUUUUUGCAACUUCACAUCCGAAAAAGUUAUAUAGACGUUGAAUUUUUUCGUUAUUUUUUGCACAUAUGUUAAGGACAUAAAAAAACAUUUCCCACAAAAAAUUAGAAUUUUCCGACAACGGAUGGAUUAAUUAUGAAUUUUUAAUGCGCCAAAAACUCAAGAAACUAAAACAUCAAAAGAUCGACUUAGAAAUUGAAUUUUGAGUUGGUUUUUUGCACACAACUCUAUAAAAAUACAUAUAGAGGGUCUGUAAAUUUUCAUGGAAUUCCAAAUAAGCUUCAAUUUAUUUUGAUUUUUCGACCGAAACGCGUAAAAUCACAAUUGAUUCUCUUCCAGAAACUGCACUUAAGUGCAACAAAAUCAGCUGUAGUUAACUGCAACUGAAGCCAGCGGUAGUUAACUACAGCUGAGAGUCAGCAGUAGUUAACUACCGUUGGGGGAAAUUUCAUAACUUAAAUGUGUUUUUAGGAAUUUUUUGAUGUGAGAAAAACAAUUUUCAAAAGUAUAUGUUUUUUAAAAUAAAAGAGGGCAUAAGACCAUAAAAGGCACUGAUACGAUGACCUUUAACACCAGUUUGAUCAACUAAGACCAACCACAAUGGUGAGGUCUUAACAAUUUAAGAUCCGGUACCUAUUAGGUACCUCCAUUGUGGGAAAAAUAUUUGGGGGUCUCUUAAGACCCUCAUUUUUAAGUGGACCCCACACAACUUUUUAAUAAAAUAAUCAUUGUUUAGUUACUUUUGUUUAAAUGUAAAUGAUAAAGAGUUAUUGGUGGGUCCCAUUUAGACCUUUUGUUAGAGCGUCUCUGUUGGAGUGGUUGAGUACCUAUUAGGUACUAUCAUUAAAAAAUUAUAAAAAAAUGAUUUGUCAAUGUGGAAUCCGUUUAAGACCUCAAGAUUGAGGAUCUCCAUUGUAGAUCACAUGCAUGUCUAUUGCAUGAGUGCAUCUUCCAAAGAUUCAAAGUCUUCAUUUACAUGAAAUUUUCAUUCAGCUUUCAACAUUCAUAAGCACUUAAUGAAUUAACGACCAAUAUAUUGGAUGCAUGUUGUUUUGAAUAUGCCCUUAAUAAAGAUGAAAAGGAGAAAGAUGAACUUGAACUCAUCAUUUUUACAGCCGUUAAAAUAGCAUACAUGAUUUGCUUUUGCUACUUGUCUAAAUUUUAUCUAAACACCUAAUUAUGAUGGUUGCCAAACACAUUCAAACAUUUAUGUUAGUAACAAUUUUAUAAGCAUGGCAUUUUUAGGGUUGUAUGGCCCAAAAGUCCUAAACCAAAUGGCUUUCACCAUUUCUCAUGCGUCCUCCUAAAUUUCAAAACUGCCCUCAGAUUUUCGGAUUAUACAAUAUGCUACUCUUAUUUUCAACUCUUCCUUUGAGGUCCAACUCGAUUAGUCUCUUCAGUGGUUCAGUUGUGAUUUUUCCUCUUAAGUCCAACUAGAUUAGUCUCUUUAGCGGUCCAGUUAUAAAGUCGAUUUGUGACAAUACCUUAUAUGCAUCUAUGUUAGGAUUGAUACGAGCUGUUAGUAGGUUCUGAUACCAUGUUGGAUGGAGGAAUGUUUUACAUAUUGAGCUUUAGUUGUUUCAAGGGGCACUCAACAUGGAAAGGAUAUUGAAGCUUUGCAGAAAAGUUUGGACAAUGCUGAGUAAGGUUCAUAUACAAACAUGUCUAAUUUUCUAACAUAAUUACAUUUUAAGAGUGAUUUUCAAAUCAACUAAUAUUUAACAUUAUGGUUCUAAAGUUGGUGAACUAUGACAUAAAACUUUAACAUUGUUUGUGGUUUCUAGAAGAAUCAAUUUGGUUACAUAACAUGAAAAAUGGUUACCAUAAGACAAGGAGAAAGAAUAAGCAUGUAUCUUUACACUCGCAACAAAGAAACACACCAACUUUGGCCAUUGCAGAAGAUUAUGGUUAGACUCAGACAGUCAAAUAUAGGUUUGACGCCAUCGAAGUAAUCGGCAUUUCAACCUUAGGUUGUGUUUCAGAGUUUUGAAGAGAUUAUCAGAAUUCUAUUCACUUUGUUUUCUUGUCAAAUCUUAAUUGUUAGUGCUAAUUGAUGGUCUUAUCAUGAAAAUUAUAAAUCAAACCUAAAUAAAAACGAAUAAUAAGAACAUGUUCAUGUACCGAACUGAUAAGUAGCAAGAAAGUGAAAUAAAGAAAACACAAUGAUCUAAACUUAUCAUUGAAAAACAUCACAGAAAACACAAUGUUUGUUUCUUCAUUUUAAUUCUAACGAAUGUCUAAUUUUGGAAUGUGUGCUAUCUUAUCCCAGUCCACCCUUGUUCCCUCCUUGCAUCGCUCAUCUAAUCCUCCAGAAAAACAUAAUUAAUCAGCAAGAGUAUCAUGCAAAACCCCAAAACAGUUAAAAAGGUGCACAUGCACUUAACAAACUCAUCAUCAUUUUCUCUUCCAUAAUUCCCUUCCUUGUUUGUACCACUUUGUCCUUGAAAGAAUUCACAAUUACCUUUGCUAACUGAAUUAUUGCUUAUUGUGAAAAACAAAAAUAUCUCAAAGUUAUCUUAUGUGAACCAAAUACAAAACCAGUAAUUAAUAAUAUCAUAACAACAACAAAUUACAAAUUUGAUGUAUCAUUUUAAACUGAGUGAAAAACAUGAAAAAACAAAAGUCAUUGAAAGAGACAGAAAAUUUAUAUGCUAAAAGGGCAUUAUAAGGCUCUAAGACAGAUUUUAGAUGUCUGUUUUUCUCUCCCAUUGCUGCUCCAACUCUCUGCAGAAGUAUAUUACUGGAAGACAGAAGACAAACUAACAUGUGCUGCAAAACCACCAUAGUGAAGAGACAAGAGUGUCAUAUCCUGCAAACACAGUACAAAAUAUUGUUACUAUACUAUAAGAAACAAAAUCAAAAAAGGGUGAUGGUGGAAGAGAGAGCCUACCAAAUGUGAUAGAAAUUGGAAGCAUAUAUGUGUGUGCUUUUUCAUUCAAUCAACAUGUAAUUUUGGAAUGUGCGCUAUCUUGUCCCAGUCCUCACCGGUUCCUUUCUUCAAUCGCUCCUUUAAUGUUGGGCAACCUCGAAUUUUCAAAAACUCAAGUGAAGUGAGGUGUUGAAUAGAUUCGGGAAAGGAUCUCAAUCCUCCACAAUAACCAAUAUCAAUAGUUCGAAGAGAUCGAAGACCUUCCCAUGUUUGUUCCGGUAUAGACUCAAGCUCACCACAAGAAGAGAUACUCAGACACUCCAACACUAGGUUGAAGGGUUCAUUUGGUAGUUUCUUCAAUUUUGGGAAAUUAGAAAUUUUCAAACUUCGAAGACAAGUCAAGUUUCUUAACAAACCGUCAGGAAAGCAAAUCACGUCUUCACCGUUAAGAAGGUGAAGGGUGGUAAGACUACAGAAAUUGGAGAUUGAUCUCAGUAACUCAUUGUUACAUCCAAAUACAAUGAGGUCUUUAAGGGAUGGAAGGCAUGGCAACACAAGUUUAGGGCAAUCAAUAAUGGUCAAAUUAGAAAGAAGAAGGAACAUAUCUCUUAUUUGCACUUUCAACAAACGCUCUAAGUUUCGUAGUCCUGCUAGUAACAAUUUUUCCAAGGAUGGAAAAGCCCUCACCUCUACACCAUCAUGAUAUUCAGCAUCAUCCAUGUAUUGCAUAUUAUUCAUACCCCAUAAUUCAAGCUUUUUUAGAGAUGGUAGUUUACCUAGUGAUGAAAGAACACAAUUAUUGCAAUACUGAAGUUGAAGAUCAACUAAACUAUUAAGAAAUCCAAUCCAUUUUGGCAAGCAUAAUCCGUCAUAGUAAAGUAUUUUCAACCUCUUGAGAUUUGAGUGAGGUUGAAGCAUUUCAAGUACUUGCUCAGCAGUAGUAGUUGGUGUCUCAGUUUCACCAUUAUUCCUCCAUGACAAGGAUAAUUCUUGGAGGUCCUUUUUACCCAUCAAAUUGGCAUGUCGAGCUUCAAAUAAGCUACCAACAUUUCCCAGACCUUGUAUGCUCAGUUUUCCUCCAAGUGAUAGAUCAUGUAGCUCUCCCAAGCCAUACCCCCUCUCUGACUGAACAAUGUAUACACUUAAUGUUCUUAGGAAAUACAAUUUUCCAAUAUAAGGAAACACACAAGACAAUGAAUUACAAUCUUCAAUGACAAGAUGCCUGAGAUUCUGUAAACAAGUCAAGUGUUUUGGUAGAAAAGUCAGUUUUCGAAAAUAUUUCAAUUUCAAGAUUUCCAAUUUCUGCAAGCGAUAAAUUGAGUCAGGAAGGGUUUCUACGUCAAGAUCACGAAGCUCCAAAUACCUCAAAUGAAUUAAGUUCCCAAGUGACGAUAACUUGAAAGUGUUUGUGCUUAAAACUCGAAGGGAGCGAUUUGUUGGGAAGUAAUCGUAUUCUUUUUCGCUGUAAAACUCUAGUUGAUACAACGUUCGCAAGGAUUCAACUUUUUUGAAGGCCUCAUUGAAGGAAAACAAGUUAAUAUCAGAGUAAAAGCUAGUAUGGUGUGUGCUUCUUAACAAGUUAGUGUUAGUAUUCUCCAAAAUCAUACACUCUGACCCCAUAACUGAUUGAGCAAGAUCAUGCACUAGGUCAUGCAUCUUGAAAGUAAUGUCUCCUGAAUAAUCAUCUAUCUUGAUGUCUUGGAAGAAUGAUUUUUGGCACAGUUCCUUCCAAAUCAUAUUGCCAAAAAAUUCUACAUCCAAAUUAGCCUUUGAGAAAAUAAAUCCAUUGCCCAUCCAUAGAUGAAUCAAAUCUUCCUUUACAAUUUCCAUAUCUUUGGGAAAUAUCGCACAAAAAGCAAAACACCGCUUUAAGGUCGGUGUUAAAUGAAAGUAGCUUAACCUCAAGGCUGGCAAAAUGGAAUUCUCAUAUGGUAAGGUCCAGAGAUUACUGUCUUUAAUUUCAAGCCAUUCAUUUUCAUCACUCCUUGAGCGCAUUAGACCUCCCAAUGCUUGUGCUGCAAGAGGCAAUCCUCCACACUUCUUUACUAUCGCCUUACCUAUUGCUACAAGCUCUUCCCGUUCUUCUCCAGCACAUCCAAAUGCAUAUUGUCUAAACAACAACCAACAUUCGUUUUCAGAGAGACCAGAUAAAUGAUGAGCUAAACAUGUUCCCAUGAUUUCUGCAACAUCCUUAUCACGAGUGGAAACUAAAAUGGAAGAUCCUUUGGAUCCACAUGACAACGCAGAUUUCAACUUGUUCCAUUUGUCUUGGCUUAAUCCUAGUUCCAAUCCUUGAUUUCUGCUCCAUACAUCAUCCAAAACCAGCAAAAAUCUUUUACCUUGCAAUAGUUCUCGUGCUUUUCUUUGUAUUACAUCUAAAUCCAAGGCAUCAAACUUGUCUUUUGUGAUAGAUUCUAUAAUGGAACACAAAAUCCUUUUGACAGAGAAAGUCUCCGAAACACAAAUCCAAACUUUUGUAUUAAAAUUGCUACUUACCCUAUGAUCAUUGUAGACCAUUUGAGCAAGUGUUGUUUUACCAACACCACCUAGGCCAACAAUAGGAUAGAUGGAUAGGAAGUCAGAUACUUGCGCUUGGGUGAGAAGAAACUCGACAAUCCUCUCUCUAUCAUCUACUCGUCCAAACACUUUGGGUUCAGCAAUAAUGGAGCUUGUUUGGCGCCAUUCAGCAACUUCAUUUGGCCUUUCCCUAACAACGACACCCUCUCGUAAAAGAAACUUGUCUUUACUUUCAGCAAUUUGAUCGAAUCUCCUUGUAAUUUCUUUCAACCUUUUGCCGAUGUCACGGCGAAACACAAUGUUCUUUAGGUUGAAACAGGACGAGGCUUUAAGUCUACUAGAUUCAAUGGAACAUUCAUCAAGAAUAUCAUCAAGCACAUAUACAGCAUCUUUGAGUUGUUGGAGCCAUACCUUAAUAGAGCGGUCUGUGACCUGUUUCUGCUCAGCAUCUUCAAGAACAGCCUUGAUCAGAUCCAAGGUGGUUGACAACUUUUCAGCCUUUGAUGUGAUUCCAGAAAUGGUUGCAAAUUCAUUUUGAACAAGAGAUAACAAAUUCUCAAAUACAACUCCUAGCAAGGCCUCUGCCAUUUUUAGUUAGUACUAGGAAUAUCGGCUGUUAGGUGAUCAGUUGGAAAUUAUGAAGGAAAAUAAAACAAAAUGCAGAUUUGAUUCAAUUUAGAGCAACAUCCACUAAGCACUGGGGUGAUAGUGCUAGGACCCACACUUUAAAUUUAAUGUCAUUAUUAUGGAUCCAUUGUUGACUUUUGUUUCUUUUUUUUUUUCCUACCAUUUCAUACAGAAAUAAAAAACAGUCAUAUAAUCUAUCUUGGCUAUUUCUCAAAACGUAAAGUUCUUACUUGCCCUUUGAAAGAACAAGCAAGCCAAAUCUCCAUAUAAAAGUCUAUAAAUAAAUUUGAUUCCAAUGAAGAAAAGUUCUGAAGGGUUAAAAAAGAAAAAUAUAAAAUUAUCUACAAAAACAGAUACACUAUUUGAAGGAAAUUUUCAUAUUUUUAGUCAAUAGGAAUCGAACUCGGUACCAAGUGGUUUAUAACAGUCAAUAGCGUGCAUGACAUAUCAAUGAGUUUUUCAUCAGAGCAUAAUUUUUAGCUAUGAAGAAUAUUACAAUAACAUGAAAACAUUUUGACUGCAACGAUACCUUGCUUAUGUGAUACUCUAUUAUCAUAGGCAUAAAAGAAUUAACUUCGAAAAAUUUUCUUAAAUUUCAUUAAACUGGCUUUCAUGUAUUUGGCCUUUAGGAAACAUAAUUAAAUUUGGUAUUAACCCUACACAAGAGAAGUGUAACCAUAUAUAUUUGUUGAGUUUUACAAGUUAAUGUAUGUGUUUAAAUGAAUGUUAAUUGGACGGAAAUACAGCGCACGAGUAUCAUGUAUAAUUAAGUACAACAUUGGUUCUCAAAUUUUGCUUGCAAUCUGGAAUUUUUACCAGAUAAUUGAAGCGAAAAAUAAAGUAAAAGAACAGAAUAAUAUGCACAAAAAAGUACUGUUUUUUUUACUUCAAUUAAAAAUUAAUUAUAAUGUGCAAAAAACUUAAAUCAGUUUAGAGAGGGGAAAUUAGAGAGGUUGGUAUGGUAACAUAGAAAGCGUAAAACUAGACCUAAUCAUGUUAAUUAAAUAAAAAAUUAAAUAAAAAAUCUUCUGCUGCUUAAGUAAAAAAUUAAGCAAGACUGGAGUAUCAUAUAAAACCCAAAACAAGAACAUUGUAUGACCAAUGUUUCUACUUUCCUUGUACUAGACAAGUCCAAUGAACUUUGUUUAUUGUUUUUGGUAAGACUUGCUGAACUUUGUUGAUUUCAUGAUGAUUAUGAUUGGCAUCUGGCAAAUAAGACUUCUGAUUUUAACUAGUUGCAAAGCUUCAUACUCAUUCUGAUAGAUUGUUUCCUGAAAUUUGUUUCUGGUCUGAUAGCUAUCCGUCAAUAUUUACCUCCAACCUGGGAACGAAUCUACCACAUUGUCUUUAAUUUGAAAGAGCUAUGCUAAUUGAACUAUUGUGAAGAAUAAAUAUAUAAAGGCAUAAUAAGGCUCUAAGAAAGAUUCUGAAGUCUGCCUCCUAUCCACAAGCUACUACAACUCACAGCAGAAGUGUCACUAUUUACAUCACUGCAUUACCUUUUUGAUUGAUUUUAAUAUUACAACAGACGACUGAGAUGAUUUAAGUUAGCAUAGCUCUCAAGAUGAGAAAAACCACAAAAAUUGUGCAUAACCAUGUAUUCUUUGGUACAAUCGUUCAAUUAAUAAGUAUUUCAGAGAUUUGAGAGAUUGAGAAUUCUAUUAACUUUGUUUUAUGUCAGAUCCUAAUUAUUGUCAUGAAUUAUUCAUAGCAAGUUCAUUUACUGAACAGAUAAGAAACAAGAAUUUGAAAUAAAAUAAGGAUGAGUUCUUAAAUAUAUUUGGUAAAAACUAAAUUGUGAAGGUAAUCAAUAUUAUAAAUCCUUAAGAUGAAGUCCUUUCUUAAGGAUCAUUCAUGUGUGCUGAUGAUAAUGAACUCAAGUUGGCUGAGACUUCAUCUGUUGCUUUUUUUUUCGGACAACUGUUGCACCGGACUAUUCAUUACUCCUCAAGUCCUCUGUGGUGUGUUUGUGUUGCUUAGUGGGUGGUUACAUAUAUGGUAUAUAUUUCUCUACCCCCUUCCAUUUACUAUAUUUUGCUACCCCAAGUUAUUCACAUCAUUGAUAAUUUGUGCCUUGUUUAUUGAAUUCUUUGUGUGGUUACAUUUCUGUUGACAAGUGAAUUUUAUAAAUGACAAAAAUCACGUAGUCACUGAUUUUAGCUUCCAUAAGGCAAUAAUUUGAUCAAGUAUGAAUUCAAAAAAGCAUUUAUCCCUUUUAAAUAAAUAAUGUAUGUACACUGUUUGGAAUAACCAAGACACAAAAUGUCUGAUUAUAAGCUCACUAACAAAAAACUACACUAGAGAAAUGGGAAAGAGAUUAAUAUAAAGAAUCACUUAUGUUAGCAACAUUAGUACUAGUAGAUAUUGUAAAAUCAAGGACAACCUCCUAAGGCUUAGGAGAAGCUAUAUAUAACUCUUUCAACAUCUGUUAUUAGUUGGAAUUAAGUUCGGCUCAUGUGUUGGAUCACCGCUGUCAACAUCCUCUCGUUUCAUGCCAACCAUAUCAAUUUUUCUCAUUAUUUGUGAUUUCCAUUGCUUCAUUUGAUGGACUAAUAGAUUUUUCACUGCUUUCUUUGGAGAUUGAUUUUUCAGGCCAAAAUACAUUCAAUCCAUUACCUGUAUGUAUGACCAAAAUACAUUCAAUUCCUUUAUCAAAUCUUACCAUACAUCUAAAUAUGUUUGGUGAAAAAAAUGAUGUGUGAAGGUAAUUAGUAUUAUAAAGUCCUGAAGCAUGCAAUAAAAAGAAAGCCGACUGAAGUUUCUAUAUGUUAAAAUCAAACUGAAAGUUUCUAUAUGUGUGUUAAAAUCAAUCAAUUUGAUAAGGCAGAAAAUGCAUAUUAAAGUAUUCGCUAAGAUAUGAACUAUGUUUACCUGGAAACCAACGAUAACCAGUAAAGAGAUAUCAGUUAAAGGAAAUUGAAAUCUUCAGCAGCAAACAUCACUCCUAAAAUAUGCUCAACAACGUCGCCAAUUCUGGCUAUUGGUGUUUCCCCUGAUCGAACUUGAAACUCCAACUUUCCAUAAAUAUUUCAUACAUGAAGGGACUAUUUCAUAAAUGAAGGAUCAUAACCUGCAUAUUUUCAUGAACACGUGAAAUUAAAUUGAAAUCUAGUAGUAUAUGGAGUUGAACAUCUUAAUACUAUAGGAAUUGAAGAUCUAUACCAUAUCAAUACUAUGAAGGAUCAUAAGGAAGUGGAGACGCCAUAACGAUAAUCUGACCCAUUAGGUUGACAUCUUUAAUUGAUUUCGUCUCAGACAAAAAUCACAAGUUUCACAUAAAUGAAUUCAAAGAUGUCUUCUUCAUUCCAAUAAACAAUUUUUGGAAUAUGUGGUAUCCUGUCACAUUCCUCUCCUGCUCUCUCCUUACACUCCUUUAAUUUUAGGCAACCACGGAUACUCAUAAACUCAAGUGAAGUGAGGUGUCAAAUACCUUCUGGAAAGGAUCUCAAUCCUCGCAUUCAACAAUAUCCAUAGUUCAAAGAGAAAUAAAUGGCUCCUGUUCAGUUUCACAGGAGAUGCUCUCUGUAAGUGAUAUGACUAAUGCUAAUCUACUAAAAUAUAUGGAGUUAAAAGAUGCAAAAUUCACUUUGUUAUCAAAUAAAACAUUUGAUUUCUCAUUCAUAUCAUCCGAAAUUAUCACCUCUUAUAGUUUCUGUGGUUCAGCUGAAGCAUCCUCUUGCUUUCAGGAAAAGCAGUGGUCCGACACAAAUAUGGUUGGGAUUCAGCAGCAUUCCACAACAUAUCUGACACAAACAUAAUGAAAUAACAUGAGUGACUCGACUAGAAUCAUGAAUUACAAUGUCACCUUCCUAAUAAAGAGCUGUAUACACACCUGCAGAUUUUCUGUCUUUGGUUGGUAACAAUGACAGACACAUGGCAUCAUUUCUCACAAUAUUUACCAACACACGAGAAUUAUAAUAUGCAUUGGUUGUGACAAAAUGCUCUAGAUUGUUAUUGAUGUCGAUGAUAGUUUUACCCGGAGUAUUAUACACAUGUUGAUCUUGGCUUCCCUCACUCAAAAGAUGUUUUAACAACUAUGUAACAAGUGGUUCCUGCACAUAGAAAUUAAACUAAGACAAUAAUAUUGUUAUAAUGAUGUAAAAGAGACAAAGAAGCUUUAAAAAAUUGUUCCGACUAGAAAUUACACUCAGCCAUCAAAUUGAAACAUGCAAUUAUAGAUUUCAAUACCACAAAUAAAAAAAGGGAUAUUCAGAAACGUCAAAUAAGGAAACCAUAGUCAAGAGACAUGAGAGGCAUAUCCUGCAAAUAGAGUACCAAGAGAUUGUUAUGAAACACAGUCAAAAGAAAUAAAGAUGGAGGCAGAAACACCAACAUCUCUGUUUUUUGAUUCCUGUUGAAAUCAGUAGCAGAAACAUCACCUGCCAAAGAGUGAGCCAAACAAUAUAUAUUAUUCAAAUAAACAAUCUAAAACAAAUAAAUAAGAAUGACCAAUAAAAACUUAAGAAUAAAAAUCGAGAAAACCUUGACACCGAUCAGACUUUGCUAAUGGGUACGGAGCUCUGACCCAUUGUCACUUCCUCCACUCCAAAAGACUGCGUCUUCGUCAUUGGGUAUGUUUGUUCCAUUAAUCCCGUUAUUUGUCUUGUGUGUCGACGCCAAUCCUAACCAUUCAAUUAAAUCCCCACAAAAUCAGUAAAAUUAAAAAAAAAAAUCCAAAAUUCAAAUUAAAAAAAAUUAAACUAUGAUGAAGAAAAUGACCUGAAUUAGAACAUUUGUAACUUUAGUUGAGCAGUGAAAUAUCUUUCAUGUAGUCUGGAUCUCUUCCUGCGGAAUGGGUUCCAAAUAAGUCAACAACGAGAAUAAAAAUAAAGAUUUUUGAGCAGUUGAAAUCCAAACAUAAGAAGGGGAAAUUGAGAUCUUACCAGUAAAAUUGAUUUUUGCGAUGUUGAUUGUGGCAGAUAAGGGUAAACGUCUCUGCUUCUUAAUCCUCGGUAAACUGUAUUUUUGGAAUAUGAGCUAUCUUGUCCCAAUCCUCCCAUGUUCCCUCUUUGCAUCGUUCCUCUAAUGUUGGGCAUUCCCAAAUUGUCAGAACCUCAAGAGAAGUGAGGUGUCGAAUACCCUCCGGCAAGCAUCGCAAUCCUUUACAGCUAUAAAUCUGUAGAUUUCGAAGGGAAGUGAGGUGUCGAAUACCCUCCGGCAAGCAUCUCAAUCCUCUACAACUCGAAAUGUGUAGAGCUCGAAGGGAUUGAAGACCUUCCCAAUUUUGCUCUGGUAAGGACUCCAAUUGUGGGAACCAAUCUACUUCCAGAUAUUGAAGACAAGUAAGGUUUUUGAACAUCCCCUCUGGGAAGGAUGUUAUUCCUUCACCCUCCAUUAGGGUAAGCUGAGUAAGACCACGGAAGGUAGAGAUUGACCUCAGUAACUCAUUGUUACAUCCAUCCACAUAGAGGCCUUCAAGAGAUGGAAGAGAUGGCAGUCCAAGUUUAUGGCAAUAUGAGAUUUCCAAGUAAGAAAGACAAGGAAACAUCUCCCCUCUUUCCACUUUCAAUAACCCCUCUAUGUUUCGUAGGUAUCGUAAAUGGAGAUCCAUCAGAGAUCGGAAAACCAUCACCUCCACACCAUCCUGAGAUUCAUCAUCAUCCAAGUAUUUCAGAUUAUCCAUAUAAGAUAAUUCCAGUUUUUUUAGAGAUGGUAGUUUACCAAGUAACGGAAGCCGCACAAUUUUGUUGCAAUUCCGAAGUUCAAGAGAAAUUAAAUUACUAAGAAGGCUUAUCCAACUUGGUAACGAUAACCCUUCAUUGUAAUUUAUUGUCAAGCAUUUGAGAUUUGAGUGAGGUUGAAGCUCUUCAAGUACUUGCUCAGCACUAAUUAUAGAUUCCUGUUGGGAUAUCCAUGACAAGCAUAAUUCAUGAAGGUCUUUUUUACCCAUCAAAUUAGCCGCUUCAGCUUCAGAUAACCUGCCAACAUUGUUUAAUCCUUGGAUAUGCAGUUUUCCACCGAGGUUUAGAUCACGUAACUCUGUCAAGCUAUUCCCUUUCUCUACACUAACAAUGUACACACUUAAUGUUCUUAGACAAGUUAAUUUUCCAAUGUUAGGAAACAUUUGAGACAAAGACCGACAUUCUUCAAUGACUAUAUGCCUAAGAUUUUGUAAGCAAGCCAAGCGUUUUGGGAGACAACUCAGAUUACGACAGUCUUUUAUUUUCAAGAUUUCCAGUUUUUGUAAGUUGUAAAUUGAGUUAGGCAACUUUUCUAUGUCAAGAUAAAUAAGUUCCAAAUACCUUAAAUGAAUUAAACUCCAUAUUGGGAUCUGCAGAGAAAAUGUUCUUAAAACACGGAGAGAACUGCUUAAUGGGAAGUGAUCAUAUUUUGUUGUAAUAAAAUAAUAUUUCUUCAAGUCAAACAAUGUUCGCAAGGAUUCAACUUUUUUGAAAGCAUUUUCAUCGAAGGAUAAAAAUUUCUUGCUGUUAAAACCAAUGUGGUGUGUGCUUUUUGACAAAUUAGUCGUGUUUUUAUUCUCCAAACACGUACAUUCUUGCCCCAUUACUGAUUGAGCGAGAUCAUGGACAAGAUCAUGCAUCUUGAAAGAAAUGUCUCCAGAAUAUUCAUCCAUCUUGCUAUCUUGAAAGAACGAUUUUCUGUACAAUUCCUUCCAAACCAUGUUUCCAACAUCUUCAACCUCUAAAUUCCUCUUUGCAAUAAAUCCAUUAGCCAUCCAAAGCUGAAUCAAUUCUUCCUUCAGGAUUUCUCUAUCUUUGGGAAAUAUAGCACAAAAGGAGAAACAUUGCUUUAGGGUUGGUGUUAAAUAAAAGUAACUCAACCUCAAAGCAGGUAAAAUAGAUUUUUCAUGUGGUAAAUCCCAAAGCUCACUGUCUUUAAUAUCAAGCCAUUCCUUUUCUUCAUUCAUUGAGACCAUUAAACCCCCCAAUGCUUUUGCUGCAAGAGGCAAUCCAUUACAUUUCUUUACUAUCUCCUUUCCAAUCUCCACAAGCUUUGUAUGCUCUUCUUUGUUACGUCUAAAUGCAUGUUGUUUGAACAACAACCAACAAUCACUAUCUGAGAGACCAGAUAAACGGUGACUUUCCCAUGUCCCCAUGAUUGUUGCAACAUCCUCAUCACGAGUGGACACUAAAAUGGAACUACCUUUUGAUCCACACGACAAAACAGAUUUCAAACGAUUCCAUCUAUCUUGUGUUAACCCAGAUUCCAAUUGUUCAUUUUGAUUCCACACAUCAUCCAAAAUCAGCAAAUAUAUUUUCCGUUGCAACAAUCCUUGCACCUUUCUUUCCAAGACAUCUAACUCAAAGUCAUGACACUUCUCUAAUGUAAUAGAUUCUAUAAUACAACACAAAAUCCUCUUGACCGAGAAAGUCUCAGAAACACAAACCCAAAUUUUUUUAUCAAAAUUGCGACUCACCCUAACAUCAUUGUAGAUCAAUUGAACAAGAGUUGUUUUUCCAAUACCACCUAAACCAACAAUGGGAUAGACAGAAAUGAAGUUAGAGUCCUUCGCAUAGGUGAGAAGAAACUCGACAAUCUUUUCUUUAUCAUCGUCUCUUCCUAAUGCUUUUGAUUCAAGAGGGGUGGAGCUGGUUUGGCGCCCUUCAGCUACUUGAUCUGGGAUUACCCUAAGAGUUUCACCCGUCUGUAGAGAAAACUUGUUCUUUCUUUCAGCAAUAUCAUCUAACCUCCUUGUAAUCUCUUUCAACCUGUUACCAAUCUCAUGGCGAAACAUGAUGUUCUUUGGUUUGAAAGAGGUAAAUCCUCUGAGUCGACAAGACUCGAUCGAGUACUCAUCAAGGAUAUCAUCGAGCACAUAAACAGCAUCUUUGAGGUCUUGUAACCAUAGCUUAAUAGAGAGUUCUUUGAAUUGUUUCUUCUCAGCAUCUUCAAGAACAGCUUUGAUGUGAACUAAGUUGUCUGAUAGCUUUUGAGCCUUUGACUUGAUUCCAGAAAUGGUUGAAAAUUCAUUUUGAAGGAGAGAUGUCAAAUUUUCGAACACAACUCCAAGCAAAGCGCAAGCCAUUUUUUUGUGAAAACAAAUUAAAGAGUUGAAAAGAUAAGAAGACGAGAAAUUUGUUUAGAUAGAAUGAGUGUUGAACCAAGCUGGAGGACCUUUGAAAAUAAAUGCAAUGAAAGUAGAAAGUCAGCAUGUAGGUGCUCACAAACAGAAUAACGAUCUUCAGAAAAUGUUUAUGAAUCUAGUGCCUGCAUUUUUUUAUUUACGUUCCAUAUAAAAUUUCAUUCAAGUUGGUGUAACGUCAUUCACUUAUAUUUAAUCUUUAAAAUUUCAUGCCACUAGUGUUUAAAUUUAGUACUCUGGGUCAGGGGUGGAUCUGGUUUCACAAUAUUAAUGGGGCAAUUUUUUUUUUUGUCAAACAAUUAAAUAAUAUUAAAUUUGAUAAGAAGAUAUAUUAAAAAUAGUUGUUGCAACCAAAAUUACAAAGAAAAGUAUCUAUUUUUCAUUUGUUGAAUAUAAACUAAAAUUAUAUAAUUACUAAUUGUUCUAAGAACAUCCCUUUCUAUAUAGAUUACAAGAGAUGAAUCAAAUGCUCUAAGAGGAUACCCAUGCAUAUGGAUGGGUGAGCGUGUUGCGCUUUUUUUGAAAGUAAUUCACAAUUGUGUAGAAAUUAUAUAUAUAUAUAUAUAUAUAUAUAUAUAUAUAUAUAUAUAUCAUUGUAUUGAUUUUUUUGAGAGCAUAUUGAUAUAUGAAUAAAAAUAUAGAUAUAUGUAUAAACUGUACAAAAAAAUUAUUUAUUUAUAAAAUAUGAGUACAAAUACAGACACAUUUAUAAAUAAAUAAAUAGGUUCUCUAAUUAAUAUAUGAAUAACAAAAACCCAUUUGGGGUUGGCCCAGCGGUUGGCUUGGGAUCUUGGAGUUUGCUCCUUCAGAGGUCUCAGGUUCGAUUCACUCUGGUGUCAAUUUCGGUGGGCUAAGUCCAUACAGAGCUUGCUCUGGCUUUAAACGAUGCCCCCGCAAGUGGGCGGUGGGAUUGGUCCCCUCGGAUUAGUCAAUUCUUGGAUCGGAUACCGAGUUUUCAAAAUAUAUAUAUAUAUAUAUAUAUAUAUAGGGGUUUGCUAGAACACACCCACUAGUUUUUAUGUGGGAGUGUUUUAGCAAAGCUACACCUUAAGGUGUAUUUAACCACUUUUUAGUUAUUCAAUUGCUAAAAUACUCAUUCUAAAAACUAAGUGGAUGUAUCCUAGCAAAUGCCUAAAUAAAAAUAUAGACAUCUGUAUAAAUUAAAAAAUAACAUAUAACACCAUCUUAAUAUAUGAAUGAAUAUAUAGAUACAUGUAUAACAUAAAAAAAAAAAAAAAAUAGUUGUUUAUAUUAAUAUAUCUUGGAGUUUGCUUCUCCAGAGAUUUUAAGUUCGAUUCUUGGAUCGGAUACCGAGUUUUAAAAAUAUAAAAAAAAAAAAAAAAAACACCUUGUCAAGAAAAAAAAAGAACACCCUUUUUUUUUUGGUACAAAAAGAACACCUUUUUAUUUAUUUAAUUAAAUAUAAGUUUCAAUACGAUUAUGGUUAAGGAGGUCAUUCAGUGAUACCUCUAUCUACUAUAAAUAAAUAAAUUUAGGAAAACAAGUUGACCAACAAAUUUAUUAUUCGAAAAAUAGUUGACCCACAAAUUCAUAAUAGUAACCGUAUGCUUGUGUUUUUUGACAACUGUUUUUUUUGCAAACAAAAAUCUUUUAUUUUUUUAAAAAAAGAAAAACUUUUACACAUUUUCAUUCAUUAUAAAAAGUGAUAUAUUGUUAUUUGUCAACUUUAUCUUAUUUCUAUAUGCCACUUUAUUGUUAUGAGAUUAUUUUGUGGAAUUUUUUUUUUCUGACCCUAUUGGCCAAAAAUAUAUAUAUACAUUUGAACUAGGCGCAUAUGGGUCAUUGUCAUUCAGUGUUAUCACUAAACCAAUGUAUAUUUGAUGUUAAUUUUGCGCAUCCAAUAAUAUAUAUACCAUUUUUUAAAUCAGUUUCACACACCAUGAGGCAUGAACCAUCCAAUUUUUCAUUUUUGUUCCCUCAAAAAAAAAAAUCAUUUUUGUUUUUUUAAUAUAAGUCUUAUAAAAAAAAUAAAUAUAGGGUCCCCAUGAGCUUAGAUUUUAAGGUAAAUUUCUCUAGCUACUAGGCUAUUUGACAAAAAAAAAAUAAAUAGGAGAUUUUAUAAUUUUAAUUGGAUUCUAUAUUUUAUUUUGAAAAAUUACUUGAAUAUGAACAAAAUCUAGAUUUUAUUUUGAAUAUAUAUAUAUCUUGAAAUAAUAUAUAUGUCAUUUCGUCGGAUAAUUAUCGGUGAAAAAUAUAUAUUUCGUCGGAUAAUAAUAAUAUAUAUAUAUAUAUAAUUUAUCGGUGAAAAAAAUUAUUUCGUCGGAUAAUUUUUCACAGAUAAAUUAUAUAUAUAUUCGUCGGAGAUCCUAAAUUAUCCAAUUAAAAAAACAAAAAUGAAAAACUGGAUGGUUUGUGGUGUGUGAAACUGAUUUAAAAAAUGGUAUAUAUAUUAUUGGAUGCGAAAAAUUAACAUCAAAUGUACAUUGGCUUAGUGGUAACACUGAAUGGCAAUGACCUAUAUGCGCCUGAUUCAAUUCCUCCUGAGUGAAAAAUUUUAAUUUUUUCUCAAAUAAAUAAAAAAAAGCAAAAAACGAAAAAAAAAUAAAAAAAAUUGAUUUUUUUUAAAGGGGGUCAGAGCUGAAAUUUUUUUGGCCAAUAGGGUCAGAAAAAAAAAAAUUCCUAUUUUGUGCUGAUGAGUCACUACAUAGUAGAGUCGACGGUUGUUGUCAAUUAUUUGAAUAUAAUUUUUGCAUCUUCUAAUAAAAAUGAGAAUAACUAUAAUAUUCUAAUUAUAUAAAUGUGAAUAACUAUAAUAUUCAGGAUUUAUACGGGGACAAACAUGAUUUUCCAAAUUUUAGAUUCACUUAAUUUCUUUUUUUGAUGUUAUUUAUUAGGGUUUUGGCUUAAUCCCUCUUUUACAUAAUUUUUCCUUUUUUAAUAAAAUUUCAGAGUAAAUGAUAGAAAAUAGGAGCAGCUUACCAACCUAGUUGAGAUGUCUAUAAUUUCUUCUUUAGUUUACCUUUCUUGCUCUCUUGAUUAAAAAAUAAAUAAAGAAUCUACUUUUACAUCAAAGUUCAUGAAUCUAGUCCUAGUGGCCUGUAUAAUUGCUAGGAAGAGUUUGAUUGAUCCACUUUAACCAUUAAUACGUGGCCGACAAAAUAAUGAAAUAACUUUGCUUUAUGAAAACUUUGAUUUGGCAUUUUAAUUUCGUACCCUAGCUAAGGAGUAAGGACGAUAACCGGUUGUUGAUGGGUCCAACUCUCUAAUAUCAUUCUUGUAUUGCAUUUACAAUGUUUGUUCAUACACAUAAUUAGGACAUGAAACUCUCAAGUCUCAAAUGAAAGAAAAAUCAAUUUUACAGUUAUUUCAUUAGUUUUUUUUUUUUUUUUUUCUACCAAUCAUUUUUAAAUGCCCAAGCAAUUCAUCUUGCACAAAAUAUUGAAAACCAUCUAACCGUCAAAACUCAAGUUUCAAUUUCAUCUUGGGAUGACAAUGGGUAUCCAAUGGAUAGAAUACUAUAGUAUCCAUCCUCAUACCAUUAUUUAUAAAAAAUAUCCGUACCCGAAUCCGUAUCCUCAAUGGGAAAAGGGUGUAUUUAUAGUAUUAGAUAAAACAAAACAAAAAAAAGAAAGAAAAAAAAAACAGAGAAGUGCUAUUUUCCACAAAGAUUUUUCCAACAAAUACCAAGAAUGUAUUGCUUUUCUGUUUUAUAGAGAUGGAGGAAAACUAUUAAUUCCGGAUUUAAUGGAAAUCAUGGCCAUGUGUUUAUGAAAAUGGAUGGCGGAUAUCAAGUCGUGGUUUUCGUGGAUAACAGAUUCGUAGGAACAAGCAUUUUCCAAAAAAAAACUCAAUGGCAUGCUCGCCAUUUUAAACAUAGAGCACAAAAAUGUCAUCGUGAGCUUAGUUCAGUUGAUAUGAACAAUGCAUAAUAUAUACAAGGUUUGGGGUUCAAACUCCGACCAACAAACAAAACAUAGAGCAUAAAAAUAAAAAUAAAAAACCUAAAGAAAAUGGCUAGUUCGCCAUUUCAUAUCAAGAACAGGAAAUUAAAUACUAAAAAAAUAUUAUUCCGUUUCAAAAUAUAAGCAAAUUUUAUUUUUUAGGUUCAUUUAAUUAAUUAUGUAUAUAGUUCAUAAUAUAGACCACAUAUAUCAUUAAUUGAAUGAAUUUAAAAAAUAAAAUUUGCUUAUAUUUUGGAACUGAUGGAGUAUAAUGCUCGGCAACUGAAAUGUAGAGUGCUGAGAAGUUCAGGAAAAAACCUGCGGUUUCACAGAAAAUGUUGAAAAAACUGGCAUGGUCGCCAACAUAUCAAUUUUUUUCUUUACAGGGACAGAAGAAAAAAAAAAUCAGAUUAUUUUGUGCUGAUGAGUCACUACAAAGUAGAGUCGACGGUUGUUGUGAUUAGUCAAUUAUAUUUAUAAUUUUUGUAUCUUCUAGAAAAAAUGAGAAUAACUUUAAUAUUCUAAUCAUAUGAAUGUGAAUAACUAUAAUAUUCAGGAUUUAUACAAGGACAAGCAUGGUUUUCCAAAUUUUAGAUUCACUUAAUUUCUUUUUUGUUUUUGUUAUUUAUUAGGGUUUUGGUUUAGUCCCCCUCUUAUAUAGUUUUUCCUUUUUUAAUAAAAUUUCAGAGUAGACGAUAGAAGAUGGGAGCAGCUUACCAACUUAGUUGAGAUGUCUAGUUUAUUCUUUAAUUUACCUUUUUCUCUCUUAAUUCAGUAUCGUUCAUUCCCAAAGUAAAAGUCGAAAAUGCCCCUACGCAUGUUAACAUGCUCUAGUGCAGAUUAUAACGUAACUUAAAAUAAGUAGCGUGACUUAACAUGCGCUAGUGUUAUUUGUGAGUUAUUUGUUGAAUGCUUAGCGCAAGUUAACAUGCGCUAGUGUAUUGUGAAACGUGAGUUAACUCACGUUGCCAUUUGCACUAGCGUGAGUUAACUCACGUUCAUAGCAGACAACAGAAACUGCAAUAAAUGCAGUGCAGUAACAGAACUGGAACUUGAAAAGUGUAAAAUGACCCGUAAUCACGCCACAUUCAUAACUUAACCGAAUUACGCCAGUUUAACAAGAGUAUCGGAUAAUACGACAUAAUCAAUCCAAAUUACUCAAAAACAUCGUUUUUCUCACAAUCACGUAAUCACACAUAAACGAUCCAAACGGUCCAAAUUUCCCGAAAAUACACAAGAUAUAAGCAGACUUAAUGACACGUAAACAAUCCAAAACAAUUCAUUUCAUAUAUUUAUAUAAUAUUAGUUACAUAUUGGCCAUAAAUAUCAAAAUUACACAACCGGCCACCAAAAAAAUAUUUCGGGGUGUAAUACCAACAAAAAAAAUGACGAACACCGACCGACCCAGAAGUGUCAUAACAUAUCUAACUAGACUAGUGAUAGUGCAUAUUCUUCGUAUUCAUCCAUGACUUCGAUCUCUUGCUUUGGCUUUUCCGGAGUGUCCAAAUUAAUAGGAUUGUGCUCAUUUGUUGGUUUCUUUGGCGGCAUCGGAUCCUUAGACAUGAGCUCAUCGAAGGCGGCUUGUCUAUCCAAAAACUGAAAAAGCCAUUGCUUCGCCACACUUUCUUUGUUUUUUUCCUUCAAAUCCGUGAGAAUAUUCCUAGGCUUUGCCAAGCUCUUUGUCAUGUCGAUAACUCUUUGCUUAUCCUUCCCUCUUAGUCGACCCGCAAGAAGGUGGCCGAAUAAAUUUGGCGCCAAGUCAUGGUUGUGAACUCCACAAAGCAUUGUAAUCCACCAUUCUUAUUUUUUUUUUCAAAGAAACAUUUCAACCUAAACGGACAGUUACACUUCCUUGAGCCCGUGCCUUCAAGCUUCGGUUUCUUCCUCGUCUUAUGUGGCUUGUAUUCACCACUCCUCUCACAUUGCGUCGUCACGUAUGGCACUAUAGUACUAGAUUUAUCUAUAGAAAUAGUAAAUCCCUCCCUACCCACUUGUCGAUAAACCCAACCAAGUAAUUCUUCUCGAUCUUUCCAUCUUUCAUUUGUUGUAAAAAUGACCCGGUGUUUACUUGAAUAACACGAACACCGGUAGGUACCAGUUUAGGCUUCUCUUCAAAGUUACCAGUAGGUACCGGUUUUGUUUGGCUGUGAACUAUGUGAGCUUCAACUUGAAAAGGAAUUUUCACUUUAAACUUCACAUCAUUGGUUGGUUUGCGUACGCCGGAAGCUUUGUUUAUGCCCGUUUCGGCUCAACGCCAUCCUCCGCCACAUUUUCAACCAUGCCACUCAAUGUCUACUCAAUAAAAAAAAAUAAAGAAAAAAUAAAUAAGUGACUUGUGCGGCAAGCAAAGGAAAUAAAAAAGUGGCGCAAAAUUUCAAAUUCUGGGCUACUGUUAGUAGCGUGAGUUAACUCACGCAAGUGCUAUCUACCUACGCAACUUAAGUCACGUUGCCCUUACAACUAGCGUGAGUUAACUCACGUUGAGCCCAACGCUUACUGCAAUGAAAAACGAAACUACCAGCAAACCCAGCAAAAAGGAAAAAGUUUUGAUUGUACAUUACCUGUUCUUUGAUGCUUGAUGAGCGUAGAAACUUGUCUCCUGACGAUUUGCAAUGAUUUGGAAUGAAGAUUUUGACUCAAAAUUUCGCACUUUUGGGGGUUUUUGGAGGUGGAGGGAAAGAAAAAAUGGAGCUUUGUGGUUGCCUGCUGGGUUUUGAACGAAAAUAGUACUUGACGCAAGUUAACAUGCGCUACGUGACUUAACUCACUCUGCGUGACUUAAGUUAAGUUCUCCUUAUAACUAGCGCAUGUUAACUCACACUACGCAAGUUAACAUGCGUAGGGACAUUUUCGACUUUUACUUUGGGAAUGAGCGAAUUCAUUUGGGUAAUGAGCAGAGAUCCAUAAAAAAAAAAAAAAAAGGUUUAAAUAUGUCUUUAGUCCUUGCACUUUUAUCAGAUUUUUGCAUUGGUCCCUACACUUUUUUUUUUUUGUUUAGAAUUGAUCUCUGCACUUUGUAAAAAUAUUGGUAUUGGUUCCUCUAUUAACUUUCUGUUAAAAAAAACACAAAACUAUUGAUAUUGGUCCCUGCACUUUGUAAAAAUAUUGAUAUUGGUGCCACGUGGCGUGAAAUGAUUGAGCCACGUGGCACUCCGUUGGUUUUGUUUUUUUUUUUUUUUAACAUAAAGUUAACAGAGGGACCAAUACCAAUAUUUUUACAAAGUGUAGGGACCAAUGCCAAAAUCUGAUAAAAGUGUAUGGCUCAAUGACACAUUUAAACCAAAUAAAGAAUAUAUAUGAAUCUAGUCCUAGGGGCCUGUAUAAAUCUAGUCCUAGUGGCCUGUAUAAUUGCUAGGAAGAGUUUGAUUGAUCCACUUUAACCAUUAAUACGUGGCCGACAAAAUAAUGAAAUAACUUUUCUUUAUGAAAACUUUGAUUUGGCUUUUGUGACAGGUUAUAAUGCUAUGUUAUAACUUUACACUUUACUUAUUUAAUUUCAUAUAAAAUUUCAUUCAAGUUCUGGUGUAACAUCCAUCAUUCAAUGAUAUUUAGUCUUUGAAAUUUCAUGCCACACUGGCAUUUUAAUAUCGUACCCUAGCUAAGGAGUAAGGACGAUAACAUUAACCGGUUGUUGAUGGGUCCAACUCUCUAAUAUCAUUCUUGUAUUGCAUUCAAUGAUAUUAAUGUUUGUACGUACCCAUAAUUAGGACAUUCUCUAGUCUCAAAUGAAUAAUCAAUUAAACAGUUAUUUCAUUAGCUUUUUUUUUUCUACCAAUCAUUUUUAAAUGCCCAAACAAUUCACCUUGCACAACAUAUUGAAAACCAUCUAACCGUCAAAACUCAAGUUUCAAUUUAAUCAUUUAACUCAUUACAUAUCAACAUGUACAAAACUUUGUUUCCCAUAUCACAUGCUCUACCUCAUUAAUUUGUCCAAUUUUGGAAGCUUCUUCAACGUACUUGAAGUGACUAUUAAGUCCUCUCAACAAUGCAAAAUCGAAAGUUACUAAAACGAACUAGAAAUACUAUAGCUAAAAUAUGCACUUAAGAAAAAGUUUAAUUCUUCAUAUCCUUCCAGUUGUGGUUAAAGAGUUCAAUGGAUGCAUCAACAACUUGCUACUCAGAAUAUUCCUUAGUAGUCAGCAGAUUUUGUAGCAGUAAAAUUCUUUAGUAAAAAACCCAGAAAAAUAUUUAUCUUAGGAAAAAAGAAAAGGCUUAUAUAAUGUUAACAACAUACUACAUUACCUGCACAAUUAUUUGAAAACUACCGCAAAGGUUGAUCGAUAAAAUAUCUCUUGUGUACACUCUAGUGCUGAUUCUUCGAAACGUGUUAAAACCAAUUCAACCAAAGCCUGAAAAUCACUCCAUAUGGAGCAUAUAUAACAAUGUUUUGAAUGAAAAUUAAGUAAAUUAAGCACUUGAUGAAAUCCAAACAUGUGAUUCAAUGACUUUUGAUCUCAUCACAUGUGUAUUCACAAUGGCAUAUUUGAUAUCAGACAACUCAGCAGAACGAUGUACAAGAGACAAACAAGAAGCUUUAAAAAAUUGUUCGGACUAAAGAUUGUAGUCAAUCAUCGAAAUGAAGCCAUGAACAUGAAGAGCCCUAAUGGCAGCAAGCCUAUGAAAGAGGGAUAUUUACUGAACUGAUAACAAAUAAGAAAAGAGGGAUAUUCCAUUAGACCCACGUUUAUUUGAAAUAUUGAAUCAUGAUAUGUAAAUGAAAAGCUAAAUAGCACAUAGAAAACAAAAAUAAAACCUAAAGGGGGUGUUUGUUUCAAGGUUAAGAAUGACAUUCCCGGGAAUACAUGGCUAGGGAAUGAUUAUACCCAUGUUUGUUAUGAGGUUGAGAAAAAAAUAUUCCUGGGUAUAAAGAUUCCUGGGAAUGGAGUAACUUCCCAUAACUUCCAUUAUUCCCAUGUAAAGAGAUGGGAAUGUGCAUUCCCAUGAUAUUAUGCAUAGAUUUAAAAAAAAAAAAUUGUAACUUCCAAUUUUUCCAGGAAUGUCAAGUUAUUUGCCAAACACUUUUUUUAACAAAUACCCAAUAAUCAAAUUUUCAUAUUUUCAUUCCCGGGUAUAUUAUUCCUGGGAAUAAUUUGUGUUUUCCAAAAACAAACGCUCGUAUGCACAAAAGUUCAACCAUACUCAACAGGCACACAUUGCAAAAAUUCAAUUAGUUUAGAAAUUAUGGUAGGCAAAAGCCAUAUGUAAUACAUGAAUUUCUGAUACUAAUCGAAUGGCAUUAUUGUGUACCAAAACAUUUGAUUUUGUCAAUGUAAGCUCCCAUUUAUUUAUCCAUCAACUAAGCCAACAGUCACUAUAUCCUUCCUCCACAUACUUCCUGCAAUUGAUGAGCUGCAAGGUUCUGAUUCAUUCAUUUGACGCACAUCCAUCUGAAAUAUUGAAUCACGAUAUAUAAAUGAAAAGUUAAAUAGAACAUGGCAAAAAGAAAUUACUCAACAGGCACACUCUGCGAAAAUUCAAUUAGUUUAUAAUCCAUGGUAGGAAAAAUCCAUAUGUAAUAUGUACAUAAUUUCAGAUACUAAUGAAAUAGAAUUAUCCAACAAAAGACAAAUGCUAGGAAAGACCCGAAAUGAAUUUAUAGAGUGGCACCCCUCCUUACAUGUUGGUUUUGUAGGGUUGAGUUAGACCCAGUGUACAAUAUAAUAUGGCAUUAGAGCCUAUGGAUUCAGACCACCUACCAUUUAUAUCCACGCACCAAGUCCAAUAGUGUUGGGCAUGAGGAGGUGUAUUGGGAAAAACACAAGCCCGACAUAGGAUAAAGAUAAGACAUGAAAAAUUUAUAAAUAGUGGCACCUCUCUCCUUACAAAUCGGUUUUAUAGGUUUGAGUUUGGUCCAAUAUAGAAAUCUACUACAUUGUAUGGUAGAAUGUUAGAAAACAACCCAAAGUGAAAGAAUAAAAGGAAAUAAAUACGGUUAUUUAUUAUUUGCAUAUACCUGUUGAUGAAGGAAUCGGUGUGCGACCUUGUAUUCCCUCUGGAGGAUGAUGUGCUGAACAGAACAAUCUGAACGCCCACGGUGAAGAAUAUUGUUGCAGCCCUGGUGAAGAACAAUGCUGUAGUGCAGAACAGAACAAUCUGAACGCUCCUGGUGAAAAAUAUUCGAUACGAAAUGCUCGAUGCUCUGAAAUAAAAAUCUGAACUUGCUUCGAAUUUGAACAGAAAUUCUUGAUGCCGGUGGAAUCUGGAGAGAGGCCAUGAAAGGUGGAAGAAAUUUUGGAAUUAGGAUUCUAUUUAAAUUUGCUUGUUUUGAGAGUAUUUGGGCAUCCAAUUGACACCUCUAGUCUACACAGUGAACCACCACAUUAUGCAAACGUGCACCUUAGGUAUAGACAAUAACAAAACAAUAUAGAAUGAAUUCUUAUAAGUUAGUUCAUGAAAACAAAAUAUUUCCAUUUUGAUAUCAGAAAUGGUCAACUCAGACGUAUGCACCCUUCACUCUUAGUGGUAAUGGACAGUCUUAUCAUGUAUUACAGAUUUCGAUUCCCCAAACAAAAAUGGAUAUCUAAUACAUGUUCUCUCACUGAACCGAUUAGAAGUUUUCUACUGGAAUAGGUAGCAACUGAACAUAGAUCCAUUUUCUAAAGAUCAUUGAAAAUAUUUGUCGGGUCGAUUGAAAAGUCAAGUAAAUGAUAAAAUCUGGAUUUUAUUUAUAAAAAGAAUCGAAAAAUCCAGAAAAAAAAAGUACCUGUUGGGCAAUAAUGUUCUUUCUCUCCUUUUCUUUAACUUUCUUCUCAUUUUCUGCUUCAACUUUGUCUUUUAUAAGCUCAUCUACCUUGCUCGUAUAUUCCCGAAUAGACUAGAGAAAAAUAAAAAAUGAUUAUUAACAAAAGAAAAAAAUGUUUGUCCUUAAUAAUAAUUGUAAUGAAAGAGACCCUUGUAAAAAACAUACCUGUAAGAGAUAAGGGAAGGAAAAAUCCAUCAUAUUGUUCUUCCAAGCUAGCUCUAAUGCAACAUCUGGCCGUAUUAGAUCAUAACAAGUAGAGAGGCACGAUGCAAAACACUCUUUCUUCCCCUGAAAAACAAAGACAGAAAGAAAUCUUGACCAAGUAAGCAGUAAUGAAGUGUAGAAAGAAUGAAUAUAAUUCAUAACGAUGAAGAGGUCACACCGCAGAAUGUGACAGGGCCUAAUCUGGCAAGGAUCUAAUAAAUGUACACCUGCUCACUAAAAUAAACAAGCAAAUCCUCUGAGAGUUUCUGGUCACCAGAUUGAUAGCAAGUUUCCAUGCAGUCCUUGUAAAGUUUGUCUUUCUUUAACAUACAAAUGGACUGUUUCCAUCUUCCAGCUUUCUUGUAAAUAUAAGCAGCAACACGUCUCAUCUCAAGGAGCUCGUGCUUCUCAAUCUGAUCAUGUGUAUUGUUGAAACCAAUCAAUAAUCAUUCAAGAUUUAGAAGUUUGCGAAAAGGAUGUAGAACUCAAUUUGGCCAAAUAAGUAAGAUAAGGAAAAUCCACCUUCUGUGCAAGACCUAUCUGAUUGAAGUUGUCAUACAGAUCUAUCGAUUUACGAAGUCUAUCGUAGUCCACCUCGUCAACAUAAAUUUCAUGCAAAGCUUCAUUAAUAGAAAACACAUUGCUGCUUUGAACUUCAACCAUGUACGGCUUUAUCAAUCGGAUAUGGCCUGCCUAAAAAUCAGAAAAUUCGAGCAACAAGUAUAAUUAUUGCAUUAAUCAUUUGCAACUAAUUAUUUACAUAACCUAAUAAGAUUAAAAUUACAGAUAUUAGGCAAUAGAGUACAAGAAAUAUAGACCUUCUGCGCUAUUUCUACAAUACGGGCAUGUUCCACAUGACGGGCAAGCACAUUAAGAAGAUCAUUUAUAAUAUCAGGAUGUUCUUGCAAGUAGAAAUGAACAGCCUUAUAAUAUAGUUCUACACGACCAACAUUUACUAUAAUAUGUUUGAAUUGCAUGUGGUCCCAUGCUUCUCGAGAGUGAUUCAUUACAGUGAUUGCAGCAUUAUUAAACUCUUCAAAUUGCACAUAUAGGUAUGUGAGUUCUUUCCAGAGUUGAUGUUCAUCACACGCCUGAAAAAGCUUGAGACUGUUGAGGUUGGUUGAGAACAACUUAAUGUGCUCCAUUAACAUCUCAGGACGAUAUCUUGCGUAAAGAACUCCCAACUCAGUAAAGAUACUCUCAUGAGCACACUCCAGUUCUAUCCCUUUCUCCAUUAGAGAGAUGAGUUCAUUGAAGCGUCUUCUGUUCUGAUAAUACUUGCAAACUUCUUCCAGAUCGUCCGCCUUCAUAAAAAUGAUGAGUGAUUAGCCAUAAAAACGGAAAAUAACAAACAAAUCAACAGUUUAUCUGCUACUUAUUGUGUAUACUAAUAACUAGAUGUUCUAUACUUCACCGGAACACAUCCCAUUAACUUGCAUGCAAUGAAAUUGAAAUAUGAGCGGAAAACCUGGAUACUGAAAAUUGGAGACAUAGGGACAGGGGUGGUAUUACUGUCAGAAAAAAUAAACGAAAGUUUAAGCUAGAAAUCGUGCCACCUGAACAAUAACAUUGAGACCACAAAUCUGAGCUAAGGAGGAUUCCCCAGCAUCAAUGCAGGAAAAACAAACAUCCUUCCAUGUUUUCAAACUGUUUGCUUUCUUAGCAGCAUCAACAGCAUCUUGGAAUUGUUGAAGCUUCACCAAUGUCACUGCUAACUUAGCCCAGUCAGGGAUAAAAGCAAAUAUAAUUUUUGCAGCCUCAUAAAGCGCCUCAGCAUACAAGCGGUCUCCAACAUUUGGCAAAUUAGAAACAUUUGGCAUCAAAAUAAACUCUUCAAUUUCUCCAAGCCGACCAAUCUUUGCAUACGCAUAAAUGAGCUCACUGUCCACCUUGGGCUCUUUGGUCUUCUGCCUAACCAUGAGAAGGUACUUUACUAGGUCAUGGUAUACAUUUGCAACUUCAGCAGCCUUUAUAACCUCUAAAAACUGAGUGGCAUCAUCUGCACGGAUGAACAACUCAAUUGCAUCACUUACUAAGCCUUUUCUUAGUUUCGCCUUAGCCACCUGGCUCCAUACAGAAUCUUCUUCAACGCAGAAUGCAAACUCCAUAGCUCGAUCAAUGGUCUUAAGGUUAUCUAGCAGAACAUUAACAGCCUUAACAUUCAGAUUAAAUUUCUUGAAAACGGCAAAAGCUUCUUCAUAUAAGCGUGCUUCCACUGCCGCCUUCCCGACAGCAGAGCCAUCAAAGUUGUCCAGCCUAUUUAUGUAACCCAUGACUCUUAAAGGAUCUGCUUUUAUUGCAGCAAGGAUCAGUAAGCUUUUUAGAGUGAAGUUUGCACUAAAAGCAGAAUUAUGUAGCACAAUCUUGUCGAGAAGGUCAAUCACUUCAUGGGUAAGAUUGGCAGUCAUAAAAGCUUUCACUGCAGCUGAAACUUGGUCAGGACUCUUGCAUUUAGGCAAAGCAGUAGACACCACUUGAUCAAUCAACUGUCUUCUAAACACGUUCCCAGGAUUUAGAACCUCUUUCCAGAGGCCACCAUCCAUCCGUUCCAUAACAUAUCUGACACAAACAAUAUCAUAAAUAAGACGAGUGUCCCAGACUAGCAUUUUGAAAUACAAUAGCACAAUAUUAAUGAAGAAUUGUAUACACACCUGGCUUGGAGUUUGAACAAGGAAUUUUUAUUGGUCACAUUAACAAGCUCAUAAUCACAUUUCCCCCUUGUGUAAGCAACAACGGCAAGUGUUGGGUCCCUUUGCUCACAAUAUUUACCAAUAACACGAGAAUCAUAAUAUAGGUUGGUUGUGAGAAAAUGUACUGGAUUGCUAUUGCUGUCAAUGAUGAUUCUCCCAAGAGCAUUAUGCACAUGUACAUCUCGGCUCCCCUCCCACACAAGAUCCUCCAAGAUCUGAGUAAGCAAACGAAGACGAUUCCUGCAUAUAGAAAGUAAAAUGAGAAAAUAAUAUGGUAAUGUGGAGAUGCAGGGCAGAGAGAAAAAUAGCAUACCUCUUUACAAAUUCUUCAACUAAAGGCUCAACUGGGAAAGGAGAACGAAUCGAAAGUACAAGACCUUUAAUGAAAUUUUCAGGGCAUCGAUCAUCUAACAACUGCCCUACAACUAGAGGAAUCUUUUGAGGAUUGACCUAUAGGUAAGAAAUAUAAUGUUAGAAAUUCACGUUUAAGAUUAGCAUAGAAAGAUUCAAAAUUAAAUGCAAUCACAAAAAAAAAGUUACCCUUUGAACAUAUUCUUCAACAUAAUGAAGCAUGUUUUGACUAUAGAGAUAAUGUAUGAGAUGAGGAACAAAACCAAAACGAUCACACACAUUAAUCAGUGGCCGUGCAUUUGGAAGGUUGGUCUUCAUUAGAAAGUUCUUUGUCUUCUCAGCAUCAUAAUAGCAUGAUUCCCGGGUUACACGCUCUACCUCCGUAAUAUGUCCCGUUUUAACAGCUACUUCAAUGUACUUGAAGUGAAUGUCAGGAUUCUUACUGUACAAUACAGAAUCAAAAGCCAAAAUUAUUAAAGUAAUUACUACCAAAAGCAAAAUAUAGUCUGUCUGGAAAAUCAAUGCCAUUUUCAUUCUUCAUUUAGAAAUACCUAGAUCUCAAAUGUGCACCCAAGAAAAGGUAUAAUCCUUCAUCAGAAUUGAAUUUCUCAAAGAGUUUGAUGCAUGCAUCAACACCCAGCUGUUUCGAAUAUUCCUUGGAAGUCUGCAGAUUAGGUACUAGUAAGAUUAUUUUAUACAGAAACUAUAAUAACAAGAAAAAAUAUCCAUGUUACAGUACCUGCACAAUUAUUUUAAGAUUUCCCCCAAGGUUGACAAGUAAAAGUUGUUCCAUACACUCCAGUGCCCAUUUUCGAGGAAGGGUUCCAAAAAACUUAACAAGAGCCUGAAAAUCACUUCAUAAUAAGAAGACAACAUAUAAAAGACUAAGUAGAUACAGUCACUCUAGCACCUGAAAUCCAAACCUGAUGUUCAAUGGCAUCAGUUUUCACAAUGAUGCGUUUGAUGUCAGGCAACUCAGUAUAAUGCUGCACAAGAGACAGACACGAAACUUCAAGAAAUUACUGACAACAAAUUACAGUCAGUCAUUGGUAUGAAAAGCCAAGAACCUGAAGAGCCCGGAUGAAAAGGCCGGCCUUUUCACAAAGUUUAGCAAUACGUGGACGAUCAUAAUGACUAAACACGCCUUUUGCCAAUAUAGAAUCAGCAACAUUUGGAAAGGUCUUAAGAUUGAUUUCCAGCAGCUAAAAAUGAUUAGAGCAAAUUUUCAUAAAAUCACAAAAAAAAUAUUGUAUGACUCCAUCAACUCGUAGAUAAAGAUUAAGGCAAAGAAAAUAAAGGAACCUUUGUUUGAAGAUGUCCAUGUUCAGGUAGGUCUGGCUUCAGCAGUUCCAACAAAAAGGUAGUUGCCUCACGGAUCAUAUUCCUCUAAAAAGUAACAGUAGAAACAUACAAACAAAAUUAAGGGUUGACGACUUGAUGUUUCCAGCACAUAAAUAAAAAACAAAAGGAAAUGAUUGGCUCUUUAUUUAACAAAUAGUUCUCGGUACUCAAAUUAAAGGAAAACAUACACGGGAUGGUUAAAAACCACUAUCAAUGCGAGUUUUCGGAAAGAGAAGGUCUGAUUCCAUUAGAUUUUUCAUUUUUCCAUUAAGUAGAAAAUAACUUUUCUGAAAUGCAAAAACGCAUUAUUCACUCUGCCACUUAAAACAUUACAUAAAGAUUUCAUAAAAGUCGAAGUAGAACAGGCUCAAGUAAUCAAGUAUUAUAGGUUCUAAAAAGGAAAAUGAAGAAUGAAAUGGAGACAGAAAUUGUGUACAUGAUACUUCCUUUUCUAAGUUAGGUCAAAUUACAAGUUACGCUUGAUAUGGGAGAACAAUGAAACCUACAUCAAUAAAACAAAAGAUAAAAUUAAAUAGACCUGAAGAAACAGAUCGGCUAUUUUGUUGUAGUCAACAGGGCAACCCCCCUCCAUUCGCAACAUCAUCAGAGCAAAAUCUAGAGCACCCUACAAUGGAACAUGUUCUGAGUAAAUGAAUAAACAAAAAGUAAACUCACAAGAUAACAGAUAUUCUAGAAAGAUAAACAUCAUAAGUAGCACAGAUGAGGUGAUAUCAUUUUAUGAUGUUUGGAUGUUUGGACUUCGGAUGCAUUCAACCAUCAUGCAUGAGGUGCUAUAAUUUUAUGGGAAAUGUUAACGAGUGCCCCCCGGGGCACUUGUUAAGCACUUUAAAUAGUAAGUUUUAAAUGAAAAGUUGUGUAUUGAAUGUAUUGGAAAUUGUAAUAAUUGACUUUUUAAAAGAAUAAUUACUAAAUUUGGGAUGCUUAAAGAGUGCCCUGGGGGCACUCGUUAACAAGACCUAAUUUUAUAAGUGCACCACAAUGAUCAGAACUGAAAUAAGUUUACCAAUAAAGUAUUUCCAUAAGGCAAAACUUGAUCAUUUCAAAUCGAACUACACUAACCUGGGCAUCUGUUUGCAAUAUUGUUUGCAGAAGGAAUAUGUAAUCAAGAGUGUAUCCAACCUGCAGUAAAUAAAAGGAGAAAAAUACAUCAUGCACUGCAAAAAUAAUAAUAAUUAACUAUGUAAUAAAACAAAAGUAUAACAUUCAUUUAACAGUCCAAUAUUACCACUAUUUUCAUGAUUUUGUAAAGUCUAAUAAAACAAAUGUUUCAUUACCUGCUUUGAGUAUGUCAAAAUCUUAUCAUAUUCCCUCCUCUCAGCAAAAGCUGCAAUAACCUUUGGUGUGGCACUUGCUUUAGUAUAUAUUUUCAAUGCCAGGUCUUUAUCCACUUUCUGCAUUAGAUGUGUGUCUUAUAAGAUUGAAUAGACAAACGAAAGGAAUAUAUAGCAAACUAAAUAUGGUUAUUGAAUCGAGAUUCAAAUAGUGAAUCAGAAGAACUAUUUUCUAAAUUGAGAAUUGGAUCUUAUCACAAAUCGUAAGAUACAUUAUCAAAUAGUUAAGAGUACUAGAAUCGAGAAUCGAGAUACAACUAGCACCUAGCAUCGAGAAUCGAGAUACAACUUGCAUGUAUCUUAGGAUAUUGAUAACCAUAAGUAUAUUCAACUGAUAAAGAAACUAAGAAUCAAUUAUAGAUUUGUAUGAGAACAGAACCUUCACAAGGUCACCAAGCUCUUCAGUGCAUUCAAGUUUAUCCUCUGCUAGCCAUUUUCCUAAAAGUUUCUGUUUGUUUCGACUUACGGCUAGCCGUGACAUUUUCAAUGACUCAAAAGCAUCCAGUUUUCCACUAGAAAACAGAUGGUCAAAGUAUUGUAAGCAUGAUGGUGCAUCUUCCAAAGGUACGUUCUGAAAAAUAAUUUACAGAAGAUAAUUAACAAAAGAAAUGAACAACUUAAUGAAAUCGUCAUGUUAUUACUCUUCCAUCCCAUUAACAAAAAAAUAAAUGUAACAUCAUGAAGCACGAACAAUCCUUGGAUUAGGCAUGUCCCAGUGUCGGACAUGUGUCGUGUCCGACACCGACACAUAUAAUUACACUGAAUUAAGUGAUUUUCUCAAAUUAUUAGCGGUGUUUGGGUUUCAGCGUAUGUGACGUGUCCGGUGUCCGUGUUUGUAUCCGUGCUUCACUAUUUUAUUCCAACUCUACUUUCAAAAUAAUACAAUAUACAUCACUCUUAUGUCAAUUAUACUUCACCAUACAUUUAUGGCGAUACUUAACACUCUCAAUAAUUAAUAACUCUAGUUACGACAUUCCAGCUUGAAGGUGUGUGACGAGUAUCUAGUAUCUAACCGUUGUGUUUGACUGCUAUCAAUGUCACUGUCGUAUUUAGUGUCUGCCUCAAUGCUUCGUAGAUUAAUAAUCAUCCUUAUGUAAAAUUGUUGCACACUUUUAUUUAUUUACAAAUUUUCUUAAUUUAUAUAAAAAUACCUAAAAAUGAAAAUUAAACAAUCCGAGUAAUAAGCACAGUUAAUAACCGGAAACAGCCGUUAAGACCUAGCUCAACUAACAAUGUCGAUAUUGUUAGGCUAAACAACUUUAUUAGGCUAAACCGGACAUUGCAAUUGCGUGUGAGUUUCAGGUGUUGGUGUUUUGACAAGAAAAAAAAUAGGAAACAGACACACACUCUCGCGCAGAUGAAUGAAAAUUGUUAACAAGAUUGCAAAAGCAGAGUGCAAAAACCAUUAAUAUAACAGAAAAUAGGGUUUGAUCGAUAUUUGGAAUGGGAAUGUGAGAAAUUACUAACCGUUGAGGAUUCUUUCAUGGAGUUAGGAGUGUUAUCACCCGCCAUGACGAUCGAAACAGAGUUUUAGAGAGAGAGAGUUGAAAUUUUGAAGAAGAAAGUUUGCGAGUAAGAGAUUGGAACACAGUGACAGUGAGAGCGAGAGUGAGCGAGUGGAAUGAAGAGAAUAGAGGAAAAACUGUUUUAUUAUAAGAGCUACGUGUGCUACAAGCAAGCAUAAGCAUUUAUAUUUUUUUAAAAAUCAAGGGCAAGAUUGCAUAACCAUAUCUUAUAAACAAGAGUAAGACAAUUUUUUUACCUUUAUGUGUACCGUUUGGCUAGGUUUUUUUUUUGUCUAAAAGCUACUUUAAAACAAAGUUAAAAUAAAACUCUUUAAGAAAAAAGUUAAAGUUGUUUGGUUUCUUUAAUUUUUUUUUAGUUCUAAAGUUAUUUUUAAGUUAAAAAUUAUUUAGCAAAAUAUUGUACAAAAUUUUAAAUUUAUUAUUUUUUUGGUGGUGUUUGGGGUUCGAACUCGCGACCUUGCAUAUAUAUAAGUACCGUUUGGCCAUGCUUUUUUUCGGUCUAAAAGCAACUUUAAAACAAAGUUAAAAUAAAGCUCUUUAAGAAAAAAGUUAAAGCUGAUUGGUUUCUUUAUUUUUUUUUUAGUUCUAAAGUUAUUUUUAAGUUAAAAGUUGUUUGGCAAAAUUUUGAUUUUUUUUUUUUGUGGUGUCCAGGGUUCGAACCCGCGACCUUGCAUAUAUUUAUACAUUGUCAAUAUCAACUGAGUUAAGCUAGAGAAUAAUUUGUUUUUUCUUUUCCAAUUAUAUUGUAUAACAAAUUUUGUUAUAAGAAUAUCAUAUUUUUGGUGUCAUUUAAAAAAAAUAAGAAUUUAUAUUAUAUGAUAUUAUAUUUGUUACAUUGUUGGAGUCAUUGACAAAGAUAUGUUUAGUUUUUUUAAUAAGAAAAAAAUAUGCAUAGUUUGUUACAAUAUAAAUGUGUAAAAUAUAUAUAAGUAUAAUUUUUUUAAGCAUCUAUACUAGUACUUUUAAUUAAAAUCAAAAUUUUAUAAAAAUAAUAAUUGUUACAAUAUAAAUGUGAGGAUGAGAGCGAGAGUCUGUGAGGAUGAACGGACAGUCCGACUGCGGCCACAACGCAGGGAGGACGUCCGGUGUUCUUCUUCGCCGGCGGAGAGAUCCAAUUGGGGGGGAAGGGAGCCAAGCUGGGUGCCACUUAAAGGGGGGGUUGGGGGAGAUUGGCUUGUUGUGAGUCCUAGAAUGGGGAAAGCGCGGCGACAAGGAGAUCGAGGUCGGGAUCGGCAGCGGAAGGUCAAGCGGUUCCGUGAUUGGGACGAGGCAGGCAAGAGACAAUCUAGAACUAGGGAUUCACGCAGGUUCGGUUACGGCAGCGAUGCGGAUUUCUACCAAGACAGGCUUGCUGAGCGGUCUGAUGAGGAAUUGAGGAAGGACUGGUUGCGGUUUGAGAAUAGGAAUCGCGCUAGUGGUCACAGCUCUGGGGUUGCUGGUUAUGCGCGUCGGAUUCCGGCGCUGGACAGGCUUGGUGAGGGCGGUAGGAAGCAGGACACGCGCGACAUCAGCGGAGCCACCAAGGCCUUGACGAAUGCGGCUCUUUUUCGACGGUAUGUCACGUUUUAUUUUACUAAUUUUCCACCGUUCUUAUCGAAUUUUUAUUUACGAAAAGGGUUUGAGGUUUGUGGCAUGCUGGACGAGGUUGUGGUACCCCGUAGGUGCAAUGUUAACGGAGAACGGUACGGUUUUGUGAGAUACUCGAAUGUCCGGGAUGUUAGUAAGUUGUUGAAAGCCGUGAAUACUGUUUGCUUUGGUAAUUUCCAAAUUAAGGCAAAAGUUGCUAAUUUUGACAAGGCGGCAGCUAGAGUGGUUGAGAAUUUGGUGGUUGGCGCGGGUGCGAAGGAUACCGCGGGAGGAGGUGUUAAGGUCGGUAAGGGAGUUAAAUCAGUUGUUGAGGGUGAUGUGAUGGAAGCUGGAUCGAAAGCUGUUGAAGGCCAAUCGGAUGGACUAGAGGGACGGGUGCCACAAGCCAGAGUGGGUGCGUUGGAUAACGUUCAGGUUGGUGACGUGACGGUGAGCUUGGGUAAGGGGCAUAGUAAGGAGCAACAGGGCGGUAGCGGGAAAAGUAAGUUCGUUAAGUUUGAUGUUCGUCAUACAGGGGGGCGACCUUCAAUCCAAAAUUUGGUCCGGAUGUAUCGUUCAAGUGUGGAAGAUCUUCAGUGGGCCCGUUCAGGUGUGACUGCUACGGUGACUAAUGGUGAGAGUAUCAGGGGCGUUCAAGAUAGAAUUGCGGAUGCGGGUAUAUCAGAAAUUGACAUCAUUCCAUUAGGCGCUGACAAAGUUUUCAUUCGUAGUAUGUCCGAGGUUAGUGUUACAACUAUUUUGAACGAUGCUAAGGAUUUCUUUGCUUAUUUUUUCACCAAUAUUGUGAGAUGGGAUAAGAAUUUGGUGCCGUUCCAAAGGGGGGCCUGGUUGAGGUUGUAUGGUAUUCCGCUGCACGCUUGGAAUGAAAGCUUUUUCAAAUUAUGUAUUCUUGACGUGGGAAGGCUUUUACGUAUGGACACAUGCACUGUGGAAAAAGAAAGAUUUGAUUAUGCUAGGAUUCUGGUGGCUACAAAUUCUUUAGAGAUUAUAAAUUGUUCGGAGAAGCUUUUGAUAGAUGGUGUUUUGGUCACUGUGAAAGUGGUAGAGGAGUGGGGUUUUAAUAUUGGCGAUGAUGCUUGCCUUUACGAAGAGGAGGAGAAUGGGUCAAUUGAGGGUCAGGCUGACCCAGAAGAUGUGCAUAUUGAUCACGAACAUGAGGUUAACGCAGAUUUUUUGGUUGAUAAAAUAGUCCAAGAUUUUUUUGAUUCGGAGAGUAACGGAAGAAUUUUUGAAGAUAAGGUGGAGAAGGCGGUCUCAAAGACGGUUAAGCUUAAAGCGGUAGGUGGUCAAUCGAAAGUGGGUAGGUGUAGUGAAGCCUUGCUCGAGGGGGAUUUACAACCUUUACGGUUAGAGCCCUUUGUGGAUCAAUUGAUGGGUAGUGCGUCACCUGAGUGUAAGGUUGAUGGGCAUGGCAGUGCCGACGUUCCUGUGGAUAGAAGUGUUGAUGCUGAUGAGUGUCCAAGUGAUGGGGGGUCAGUUACUGUUAGGAAGCUUCGAACUCGUCGAAUGGUUUCAUGCCCUCCCAGAGCUGAUCGUUCAGUGGUAUCUGGUCCGUGGAGUCUGGAUUGGAUAAAUGAUCAACAUCUUAGUGACGUAGGGGUUGUGUCUUCUUCUCGGAAAUUUGACGCUAAGGGUAAGAGGCUCAAGGCUUGUCGUAAUAUUCAAGAGGAUGUUGUUGUUAAGCGAAAGAAGGUGAAGGGGUUAUUGCGUCAUUCAGUUCUUAGCUUGAAAAAAGUGGCACGGCUUCCUACUAAAGACCGGAAAGUGGUUAUGAAAAUUCUAAAGAAAAAUGAUCGGAAGUUUAAAGGAUCCAAUUCAAUCAGAAAGACGGCUAGGAUGAUUUCUAAAGACCUAUCCGAGAAUUCAUCAUCUUCUAGCUCUAUUAAUAAUAGUGACUGGAAGCAUUGGGUGGUACUUCAUGGGAGUGACAAGGUGGUGGCGGAGGAUGUGAAGACCCUAGGGGAAUCUAUUGGUGUGAAUCUUAGUGGGUACAACAAUAGAUUUGGGGUGUUAGCAAGAAAAGGGAUGGGGAAAAAGAAGAAGUUAGCUUUUGGUGAUGGUGGUUCAGGAGGGGCGGUUGAGGGUGUUGUGUAGGCGUGGUAGCGGUGGCUGGGAGGGUGUGGGAGAUGAAGUUGUUAUCUUGGAAUGUAAGGGGGUUGGGUGGUUACGAGAAGAGAAAGGAUGUUCGAGCUCUGGUGAGGGAUAAGCAGCCGUUGAUUUUAUGUCUGCAAGAAACGAAGUUGCAAAUGUGUGAUGUUAAUGUGUGUUCGUCGGUUUGGGAUAGGCAGUCGACGGAGUUCUCUUUUCGCCCGUCCCAAGGGGCGUCAGGGGGAUUGCUGACCGUUUGGGAUGCCUCGGAGGUUGAGGUGUGGUCGUCAGGCUGCUUUGAUCAUGUUUUGAGUAUUCAUGGCCGGUUCAUUUCUUCAGAUGAAGAAUUUCACUUAUUCAAUGUGUACGCUCCUUGUGAUGGAGGAGCUCGACAGAUAUUAUGGGUUGCUUUAACGACUCGUCUUCAGGCUCUUAGGGGUAAAAAGGUGUGCGUUUGCGGUGAUUUUAAUGCGGUCCGGAGUCGGGAAGAACGUAGGUCGGCGACGGUUUAUGGCGGUGUGUCGGAGUAUGGUCCUUUUAAUCAAUUCAUAGAGGAAAAUGGUUUGCUUGAUUUACCGUUGUGUGGGCGUAAUUUUACUUGGUUUAAAGGGGAUCGUCGUUCAAUGAGUCGACUUGACCGGUUUUUGGUUUCUGAAGAGUGGAGUUUGGUUUGGCCCAAUUGUAUUCAGGUUGCGCAUUUGAGAGGUUUAUCUGACCAUUGCCUGUUGAUUUUGUCUGUUGAUGAGGAAAAUUGGGGGCCUCGACCGUCGCGGUUCUUGAAAUGUUGGUCAGACACCCCGUGUUAUAAGCAGUUUGUUACUGAUAAGUGGAAAGCUUUACAGGUGGAAGGUUGGGGUGGAUAUGUUUUAAAAGAAAAAUUCAAAUUAAUCAAAUUGGCGCUGAAAGAGUGGCACAUAUCUCAUUCGCAGAACGUAGCAGUGAAAAUUGAUUCUCUUAAGGUCAGGUUGGCCGAGUUAGAUGGUAAAGGGGAGGUCGAGGAGUUAUCUGACGCAGAAUGUGUUGAGUUGCAUGGUGUGUCAGAAAAUAUUCAUUUGUUAUCCAGGCUUCACAAUAGUAUCUGUUGGCAGCAAUCGAGGAACCAGUGGCUGCGUGAAGGUGAUGCGAACUCUAAGUUUUUCCAUUCCAUUAUGUCCUCUCGUCACCGUCAUAAUUCUAUAAGUUCAAUUUUGGUUGAUGGUACUUUGGUUGAGGGCAUUGACCCUGUUAGGAAGGCGGUGUUUACCCAUUUUGCGACUCACUUUCAAUCGUAGAGUGUGGAGCGACCAAGUGCGUCGAAUCUCCAGUUCCGCAACUUAUCUUUGGUUGAGGGAGGGGGCCUGAUUAGACCUUUUUCGGUAGAUGAAGUUAAGGCUGUUGUGUGGGAUUGUGAUAGUUUUAAGAGCCCGGGUCCGGAUGGAGUAAAUUUUGGAUUCAUAAAGGAGUUUUGGGUUGAACUGAAAGAUGAUAUCAUGAGGUUUGUCACUGAGUUUCAUCGAAACGGGAAGUUGGUAAAAGGUAUUAAUACUACUUUUAUUGUUCUUAUCCCAAAAGUUGAUAAUCCGCAGAGGCUUAAUGAAUUUAGACCUAUCUCUUUGGUAGGAAGUAUGUACAAAAUUAUAGCUAAGUUGUUAGCUAACAGAUUAAGGUUGGUGAUUGGUAGUGUGAUUUCUGAAACUCAGUCUGCUUUUAUUAAGAAUAGACAGAUUCUUGAUGGUAUUCUUAUAGCCAAUGAGGUGGUGGAUGAAGCUAAAAAGUUUAAGAAAGAUCUUAUGUUGUUUAAGGUGGAUUUCGAAAAAGCGUACGACUCUGUUGAGUGGGAUUACUUGGAUUCGGUUAUGGAAAGAAUGUCGUUUCCUGUCUUAUGGAGGAAAUGGAUUAGAGAAUGUGUGGGUACUGCUACAGCUUCUGUUCUUGUUAAUGGUAGUCCUACUGAUGAAUUUCAACUGCAUAGUGGCUUGCGUUAGGGGGAUCCCUUGUCCCCUUUUUUGUUCCUGAUUGCGGCUGAGGGUCUUCACACGUUGAUGAAAGCGAUGGUUGACAAUCAGUUGUUUACGGGGUACUCGGUUGGGGUGGCAAACCCGGUUGUUGUUUCUCAUCUGCAAUUUGCGGACGACACUUUGCUGCUUGGCCAUAAAAGUUGGGCUAAUGUUCGGGCUCUUCGUGCGACUCUUGCCAUUUUUGAGUUGAUGUCCGGUUUGAAAGUGAAUUUCAAUAAAAGCUUGUUGAUGGGUAUUAAUAUCUCUGAUUCUUGGUUGAGUGAGGCUGCUUCGGUGUUGAGCUGUAAAGUAGGUAAGAUUCCUUUUUUGUAUCUAGGUUUGCCUAUUGGGGGUAAUCCGCGGAGACUUUCGUUUUGGGAUCCUGUCGUGAAUCGUAUUAAAUCUAGAUUGUCGGGGUGGAAUAGCCGGUUUCUCUCUUUUGGUGGUCGCUUGAUCCUUCUGAAAGCCGUGUUGACUUCUCUGCCUGUCUAUGCUCUUUCCUUCUUUAAAGCUCCAACAGGUAUAAUCUCUUCCAUUGAUUCUUUGUUUAAUAAUUUUUUUUUUUUUUUUUUUUUGGGGGGGGGGGGGGGGGGGAGUGAGGACCGUAGGAAAAUUACUUGGAUAGAUUGGAAUACUGUUUGUUCUAAAAAGGAGUUAGGAGGGUUGGGGGUUAGGAAGUUGAAGGAAUUUAAUGUAGCUUUGCUAGGGAAAUGGUGUUGGAGGUUGUUAGUAGAUAGAGAUGGCUUGUGGUAUCAGGUUUUAGUCGCCCGUUAUGGCGAGAUCGGUGGGAGAUUGGAGGUGGGGGGCCGGAGUUGUUCUUCUUGGUGGCGGGAGGUAGGGAGGAUCUGUGAGGGUGGGGGCGGUGUAGGGGGUGAUUGGUUCGGCAGUAGUGUGAUUAGGAAGGUGGGGGAUGGUGCUGAUACGUUGUUCUGGUCUCAUAGGUGGUGUGGUGAUCGUCCUUUUAGUGAGCGGUUUGGCAGGUUGUUUGACUUAGCUGAGAACAAAGCCAUUUCAGUGGCUUCUAUGUUCUCUCUUGGCGUGGUGCAGGGGGGGAGGGUGGAGUUGGAGGCGAAGAUUGUGGGCUUGGGAGGAAUUUUUAUUAGAGGAGCUUAGGGCUUUACUGCUUGAUGUUUCUUUGUUGCCUAAUGUUUCAGAUAGAUGGUUGUGGCUACCUGACCCUGUGGGGGGUUAUACUGUUCGAGGAGCUUAUGUUAUAUUAAUAGAGGGCGCUCAUCCUCUUUUGACCGAAGCAAUGGAUCUAGUUUGGCAUCGUCAGGUCCCCUUAAAGGUCUCGAUUUUUGCUUGGAGACUUCUCCGGGAUCGGUUACCUUCAAAAGCAAAUUUGGCAGCUCGUGGUGUUCUCAGUUCUGAGGCGACUCUUUGUGUUAUGGGCUGUGGUCAUGUUGAAACGGCCGAACAUUUAUUUUUAUUUUGCCCAAAUACUGUUUUGUUGUGGCAGCAGGUGCGCAAUUGGCUAGGUUCUAUGGGGGCGGAUCCGAAUAAUCUUCAUGAUCACUUAGUGCAGUUUACUUACUCGACAGGUGUUGGUAAAGCUAAACGUUCUUUUCUGCAGCUAAUUUGGAUUCUGUGUACUUGGAUUGUGUGGAUCGAACGUAAUAACCGCUUGUUUGGUAAUGUUGUAACGGAUGUCCCAAGGUUAUUGGAUAAGGUUAAAUUGUUAUCAUUACGGUGGCUGAAAGCAAAAAAAAAACGUGUUUGUUUAUGGUACUCAUAUGUGGUGGUCUAGUCCUUUGUUAUGUUUAGGCAUUGGUUAAUUCCUGUUUUUUGUUCUUUGUGUUGGACUCUGUAACAUUUUGUAUCUUGUAGCAGAAUUCUAGGCACAUCUUGUGCUUGGAAUAUGCUAUGUUUGUGUUAAUAUAAUUCCAUUUUGAUGUGUUCAAAAAAAUAAUUGUACGCAUUGCGCAACACUGAAAAAAAUAUACGCAUUAGUGUAACAAAAAAAAAAAGACAUACAGACAUAAAAUAUUACUCUAAACGCUAAUGUGUGUGUGUAUAUUUGUGAGGUUGAAGAAAGGGAAUAAAAAUAUUUGGUGUCAUUCAAUGACUGCAUAAAUAAAAAUAUUUGUGAGGUUGUGAUAAUUAAACGAUAUUAAAAUUAAAUAUAUAAGUGAUUAAUAGAUAAUAAAAUUCCUUCAAAAAUAGAUAAUAAAAUUAAAUUGAUCCUCCUUUAAAAAAAUUAUAUGGACCGGUUCAAAAAAAAAUUAAAUGGAAGAAAAAAACAAAUCAAAAUAUAAUAUUAAAAAAUAAAAUAUAAGGUUGCCUGUGUGAGUUGAAGAGAAGUGCUUGUGAAAUAAAUUACAGAGAAGUAGUUUUUUGAAGUAGCAUUCAACAACUUUUAAAGCUCAUUCCAUUCAAUUUUAUGAAUUCUAAAAAAAAUACAUUUUUUCGAAGGUACUUUAUUGAUAUUGUGUUUCGCCUAGCUUCUCUUUAAAAAUGUAGAGAAGUUGGAAAAAAAGUCGAGUCAAACGGUACCUUAUAAGCUUAUUUGAUUAAAAUAGAUUUGUUUCGUAAUUUUCACUUUCUCACAGGUUUAUAUCUUAUUUUCACUAAUUUAUGGUUUUUUUUUUUUUAAACACCACUGAAAUUCACGCACACAACAAAGUCUCAGGUUUAGACUCGGAUAGAGGUGUCCAACCUAACCAUUGACAGAUGAGUUAGGCUUUCCAGACAAUUUAUGACAGUUUUUUAUAAGCUAAUUCAAUUACCUUGUAGUUUAAAGUUUAUAAAGUAUCAUUAUUUAUCUCAACAAUUUUACCCUUCAAUCUUAAUUGAAAAAAAGUAAAUAUUAAUUAAAUAUAUCAUUUCAUAUUUAUAAGUUAGUUCAACCGCUAAUUAUUUAAAACAUUACAAAUCCAACUAGCUAGUUUACUUGCUAUCAACUAUAAGAAGGCCGAUAAGUUAUCAUCUAUAAUUUCAUGACUGUUGCUUUUCUGACAUCUAAUAUGUCUUGGAAACACAAGUAAAUGACUAAAAAAUUCAACAUAGUUAACUGCUGUCGAUUUUCUAGUUAUAAGCCAGCAGUAGUUAACUACUGUUAGAGAUAUUUUAAUAUUUUACUUGUGUUUUUAGGAAGUUUAUGAUGUUAAAAAAACAAUCGUCUAAUUUCAUAUGAUAUAAGGUUUAUCGGUUCAGUAUUUGCUAUUUUACCAAACAAAAUCAAUAUAUGAAAUUGGAAGGGAUGAUAGCUUUAUUAAGUUGGAAAGUUUAGGUGAGAUAGACUCGAGAGUUAUCCAAAAUCAAGGUAUACCUUGAGACUUAACAAAUUCAUUUUUAACUAGUAUAACUUGUCCCGUGUGUAAUAUUUAUUUUUACAAUUUGUCUCGUGUUUAAUAAUUACUUUGGCUUUUUAUCAAUGACAAAUCUUCUAGAUGUAUGAUAACUAUUUUAAAGGUUUCAUCCUCAAAAUAAAAAUAAAGUUAAAAGGUUUUAUUUUAUAAAGGGUAAAUAUCUCUUUUCGUCCCUGUAAUAUUAGUGAAUUUUGGUUUUAGUCCCUGUAAAAAAAGGAUUUAGAUUUGGUCCCUGUAAUUUCAGAUUUUUCCACUUUUGGUCCCUCAUUCCACCACGUAAGCAGAAUCUGCAUACAUGGCACGUAAAAAUGAGGGACGAAAAGAGGUAUUUACCCUUUUAUAAAGCAAACUAUCGUUAUUUAUUUAGGAAAAGAAAUUUUUUUGACUGUUUUCCUUAAGUUUGUUGUCGUUUUCUUCUAAAAAAAAAAUAUUUUGUUAAAAAUCGAGAUGUUACAAUUUUUUUUUGUUUUGUAACACAGACUUUAGGACUAUCGGAAUGUACUCCCUCCGUCUCUAAAUUAUAGUCGUAUAAAGUUUAUGCACGAUUAUUAAGGAAAUGAUUAAUUGUAUUGAUUUCAAUGGUAAAAUUAACAUCAUUUACUAAGAUACUCUUAUUAACAUGUAGUUAGUGAAAUAGUUAAGUUGGAUGAAAUUUAAUAAAUAAGGAUAUAAUGAUGGAAAAAAUAAAUGAAUGUUGCAUUAGUAUUUGUAAAGCGACAAUUAUUUUGAUAAAAAGAAAAAAUGCGAGAUUAUUAUUGUGAGACGGAGGGAGUAAUCUGUAGCAUAUAAUUUAUGACACAAUUCACUUCAAAAUUACAUAAAUAUACGAGCGAUCAGUUUAGAGUUUAGUAGUAAGAGUUCGAUCAUCUAUAUAACUUUUAGACAAUUGUAAAGCAACGAUUAAUGUCACUUAAUAAAUUUUAGAAAUUACAUAUAAAUAGAAGAACAUAUACAUGUUUGUAAACUCUGCUACUGAUGUGUGAACAGAAAAUAAUAAUUAUUUCAUCAAAAAAGAAAAUAAUAAUUAUGACAAAAACAUUAAUUUAUGUUAAGAUACAUGUUUGUGACAAACUUUAACAUGUUUGAGAGGAUUGAUGAUGAGGUUACUAUUGCUUGGUACAGCACAACCAACUUUCUUCAAUUCUAGAAAAGUUUGUGUAGUGUCAGGAUCAAAGCCACCUGCAAACUGAAUGUCUUGAUGGGUGAUGAGUUGGAUAAAAAAGUAAAUGUCAAAUUCAGAAAGUUCUGAGGAAUGUUAUUGUACCUGAUGUACUCUGAAUGCAAACUUAACUCCUUGUAAUAAGAGGUUAUUAUUAUCUUCAUGCAAAGCUUCAUGAGAUUUUAUUUCUUUAGUUAUUCGUUUCAUGAAUUCCUUUGCUAGCCUCAGUGAACAUAGCUUUAUCUGCAAGUUAUUAACAUGAUAAAGCCUUUCAAUAGGUUUUUAUGGUAAAUAAUAAGAUACCCUUUUGAAACAUGUAUAUCAUAAAAGGUAUAGAUGAUUCUGAUGUUAUUGUAGUGAUACUAUCUAUAUUAUGUGACAUGCAUCAAACAAAAUCAUUCAAUUGUGUCAUGAACUAUGAUUAAUUUCAUUUUAUGGAUUGUUGGUUCAAUUGUAUACAAUAAAGAAUACAAUAAUAUUGGAAAAUGUAAGACCUCUAGACAAUUGCUUUUUUAACAUCUGAAACUUCCUAAAAACACAUAAAAUACUAAAAUGUCCUCAGCAGUAGUUAACUACCGCUGACUUAUAACUAGAAAACUGACGGUAGUUAACUACCGCUGGGCUUUUUAGUCUUUUUCAUGUGUUUCUAGAAAAUAUUCAAUGUCAGAACAACAGCCAUCAGACCUCUAACCUCAUCUAAAAAUUUAUAGUAUGAGAGUCUAUUCAUUUGGGUUAUCCACCAAUUUAUCCAUGCACCUAGCCCAAUAGUACUAGGUGUGAUGGAGUGUGUUGAAAAAAACCAAGUCACGCAUUGAAAAUAGAUAAACCAUUUAUUUGUUUUCGUGUUUGUACAUCAAUAUCCAUAUGUUUUUUGUGAAGCUACUACUCUCAACAGCUUCGUAAAAAUCAUGUCAAAUGGUCAAUGGGACGUGAUAAUUUUGGUCCAACUGCCAAACCAAACAACCACAAAGUUUUUAAGAGUGUCACUUCUCACCUUAUUAAUCAUAGAGAUGAGUUGGACCCAAUAGAAAAAAAAAAAAAUCAUAUUUUGUGAUUUCACAUAAGCUUGAGUUUAAGCAAAAUUAACCAAUUCAAAAUAUUUUUCUUCAUAAUCUUUAGGACACUAGACACAUAUAAAUGCAAGCAUUUUUUUUAAUGUUUUAUAGUGAUCUAUAAUGCAUAAACAAGGUAUGAAUUUCUUACCUGACCAACAAGGCCAGUGUCCAUCAUCCACUCCCAAGGGAUAUGAAAAUUCCUAUAUUUCUUACUUGAACUCUCCCUUAUCCUCUCUUUACUACUUACACUUCCCUCCAACCUGCAAAAUUUUAAAAGCAAAACUUUCAAUUAAUUCUAAGUAUUGCUCAAAAACUUUAGUUAAACUCAACUCUACAAUUUUUGUACAUGCUCGCCUGUCUUGUAAUGCUUGUAUCCUUUUCAGGGCCAUAGAAAUUGGCUCUUUUGGAUUAUCCUCAUAUGAUGAAACUUCUGAUUCAAGAUUCUUUAGUUCUCUAUAGUUACAAGCAGCUUCUCUUAAUGCAUCUACUUUUUGUUCUGGCCAUUGUGGAAAAUGCUUUAAGACUGAUCUUUCAUCUACCAGUGUUGAUAAUUCUCCAUCAAGCCAUUUGAUGAAUGUUUCCACCUCAGAUAUAUCUGCAUAUGAAGCUGAUUCUACUUGUUUGAUUAAGAAACUGAUGAAUUCUUUUUGGCUUUGAACUUCUGAUUUUAUCUGUCAAAAAAAUGUAUCAAGUAUCAAUAAAAGAGUGUUCAUUGUUUUAUAGUUAAAGCCUUGCUUGGAUUGGUUUCUUUGAGCUUAUCUAUUGGAAUAAGUACUUGUGAGAUUAUUUCGGAGAGCUUAUGGAAACAUCUUAUUACAUGUCCAUAAGUUAAUGGAUUUAAAUUGUUUUAUAUGAUUAAUACUUAUGCUAUAAGCAUUAGUUUAAACUGUUUAUCCAAACAGGCCUAAAGAUUUAACAUUAGAAAAUUUUGAAGCUAAAUAUGAGAAGUUUGGAACUAAACUUACAGCUGAAAGAUGUUUUGACCGAUUUUCGAUUUCCUCAAUCAUGUUUCUGGUGAAUGCUACUGCAGGAAUUCCAUUGUGAUGAGUUUUGUUUUCAAUGUUGGCAUCUUUUCGUGUAAGCGAACGAUACAAUUCGAUUACUUCUGGCACACGACGAACUGUUUUCAAACCGAUAGACGAUUUUGAUGGUGUUGGAGGUGGUGGAGGUGCUGCUGUUGGCUGCAUUUUCAUUCCCUUCUCAUUUUUAUGUGAAGGUGAAAAAAGAGUAGAAGCAGGUUUUGGAGGAGGAGUUGGUGGCAAAACUAUUGAUGACUUUUCCUUUCUAGGUGAAGUUGAUGAGUCUUGAAAAUCUUGAUUUUCUGAACUCUUUUCACACAUGAUUGCUUGAAGUGCAGGUUUAAGUGUAUGGUGUGAAUCUGAAUUGUUAUCAUCUAUGGAUUUUUGUAUCUUUUUCCAUAGUAUGGUUUUUCUCUCCAUAUUGUGUGCUUUGAGUGAAAUUAUCUGUGAUUUUAAACGAGAUACUUCUUCUUUAAGUUCUUGGUUUUCUUUCUGUAGUAACUCAUUUCUAGCCAUGUGAAUUUCAAGUCUUUUUUUGAAAGAUGUUGUGAUCUCAGACUCAUUCUCUACCUGCAACAUUUUCUCUCCUUUUUUCACUCUAUAACAUGGUUAUCAAUUUGAUAUCUUGUACACUGAUUUUUGUUAUAUAUUUGGUCUUGUUUUUGAAGUAAGGUUGGUAUGUCUUGGAGUUAAAUAUCCAAGAAUGCCCUCUAUGGUACUAAUAAAGGUAAAUCAUCAUUUAGAUUCUUAAAUAUGUGAGAUGCUUUUAUAAUUGUCUCUGAAUGUAUAUUUUGUUGGUUAGUUUAGUACUCGAAUAUGUCUUUUGUUAUUUGAUCCAUUAAAAUACUGAUAAAAAAUAUGUUUAGGGAUGUUUUAGUAAUUUUGAUAUAUUCAAAAAUAAUAGUGAUAGGGUCUCACAUAUUUCUAAAAAUGAAUGUUUACACUAUUAAUAGUGACCUUAUGGGCCUAUUGGGAACAAUGGUAUUGAUAGAGUAAUUUGGACAUUUCACAUAAAUUUAAUGCUAUUUGACAUGAAGAUUAAUUAUGAUGCCUUUGUAAGAAAAUUUAUAAGUGAUUGAAGAUUACUUUGGUUUGCUGGCAGCAAUAGUAUGUGAAAGCUGCCUUUAGAGUGUCAUGUUAGGUACAACAUUAAAUAUGUUGGUCAAAUUUAAUGCUAUUGUUUCUAGAUUAAUCUAUGUGAGGUGAGAGAUUUCUUGCUCUCUAAUUUGUUAUUAUGUCAAAACUUUUUUAGGUUAGUGGUACAUCUAUAGUGUAGAAGUUGUUUAAGUGAGGUUUUAGUUAGUAUAUAUGCUUGUCUCAUUUCUACUUUGAAUCUUGUUCCCUUUUCUUCAAUUGAAUUUGAUUUAGAAUUCAUAAGUUAUAGUACAUGUGAUGUGGUCCAAAAAAACUAGUCGGUAUACUGAAUGGUUGAAAGUCCUAACUUACCUAGAUGGAACUCUUUUUCAAUGUGUUUGGUUUCAAUGUGGAAAGUAUUAACAAUGACUUUAUUUUCCCCUUAUGUCAAACAUCAUUGUAGUUUUGUGUAAGGAUGAAAAUCAAUUCUUAGACAAGUUGAGAUAUUGCACAUGUGUUAUUUUUUUUAGAUUGAUUCUGAUAAAGCAUAUGUUUGUUUUCGCAGUAGAAAAUUGAUUGAGGUGUGUUAUCUUUUAAACUAGGGUUUGUAGCUUCAACGUAUAAUUUUUUUAUCUCACUUUAAAUAUCAUAACCAAACACAAAUAAUUUUUUUUUCAUAUUAUGAAAAUCAAUUCUAACACAAAGAAACUUAUUUUUUGAGUAAAAAGAAUUAAAUAUAAACUAAUUUGUUGCUCCUUCAAACACAAUAUAGCUUCAUUGUGAUAGUUGUCUUUCAUUUCACACUGAUUACACUUCUUGUAGUUGAGUGGCAUUUGGCUUAUUCUUUGCUUGUGAAACAAUGAAAAGAGUGGUAGGAAAAAUGUGUCUCAUUCAGUGAUGUUUAUUGAAGAGUAAAUAUUUUCAUAAUGACUACUACGUCAUACCAAACCAGAUUCUUAUGAUAUUUACAUUUUUAUAUUUUUUUUGUUUUAUUUUUUAAUUUAAUAUGUUGUUUCAAAGCCUCUUCUAAACUCUUUUAUUUUUCUUUCAUCCUACUCCUUCUAUAGUUGAACAUUACCACCCCUACACACCGAAAGUGUGAAUUUGAUGUAGAUUGGUUUUCUGUGACAUGUUGAGGCCUACUAUACUUUAGGUGAAGAACGUGACUAAAUUUUUCAAGUUUAAAGUGUUGUUCAAACUUUCAUAACAAAUCAUUUUUUCAUCUCUUGAAUCUUGAUUAAAUCUUGGUAUCCGACCUAAUAGUUGAUUAACUCGAAAGGUCUAAUCUAAUUGUUCAUUUGUGGAGGCCAUUUAAACACACACAAAAUUGAGAGGUUCUUAUAAUAUUUUAGACAUUCAUUCAAAAUUUCUAAUGAUACACAUGAAUCGACUUAAAAGCAGAGACCAAAAGUAGCAAUGUAAAACUUUUGGAGAACCAAAACUCUAAAAAAAAAAUUAAAGGGACUAAAAAGAAAAGAUAGAAUAUUAGUAGGGACCAAAAAAUGUUUAGCCCAAAAAUAAAAUAAUGUUAAUUGAAAGACAUUUUAAGAAUAACAUUGUUAAAUAAAGUAAAACUAACAUAACAAUUUAUAUACCAACAAUUGGUAUUUAAAAAAAUAUUAAGUAAAAAUAAUUAGUUUUCAACCUUUUUCAGAUGUAAUUUUAUUUUAGCAAUUUCUUUUUCCACACUACUUUAUUAUCACGCGUCCUACUGAAUUCUGAAAAUACCUCCGUUCGGAUUAUAUAGUCUGAAUGAUUUUUUGAAGGUUUUCAUAUUAUAAAAUUUGAAACCUCUAAAAAUCCAGAAAAAAUACAGAAUUUUGCACUGAUUCAUCCAAAACGUGUAAAUGUACAGUUUGAAAAAUACUAUCUGAAAACUCUAAUAAUAUUUCAUAUUACAUAUUCAGAAUUGUGUCAAACUCCCAAAAGACCAUUUCAAAGAUAAAUUACAGUGUAUGAUAAUGAAAUUUAACCAACAGGUUAACAAAAUCGCAAUGAGAAGACACAAAGCAGAAUUGAAUCAAAGAAAUUGAGAUGGAGGAAAGACCCAAUCCAAGAAGAAGACAGCAAAGAAAAUUGAAUGUAUUUUCUAUAGAAAGUGAAUAGAGAGAAAGAAAAAAAAAAAAAAAAAAAAAAAAGCUAGAAUGCAAAAGAAAGGGGAAAAAGAGAAAAUUGGAUUUUCUCAAGAAAAUGCAGCGGAAAAUAUCUUUUAAGGUGGAUACCAGAUUAGCUCUUAUACCAUGUUAUAAAACAUGAUAUACAUAGAAGGAACAAGAGAAAACUCAAAAAAUCUUUCUAUUUAUGAUAAAUGUAAAUGUUACAAAUGAUAAGAGAGACAUCUCAAAAAAGAGAAUAGAUGGACUAGUGAGUAAAUGAAAUAAUAGCAUAGUGGAUAUUUUUCCUUAAAAAAAAGCAUAGUGGAUAUUUUCUUAUUAAUCAAAGUUUUCCUUAAUCUGAACUUUGUUUUAGGAGACCUUAAUUUGUACUUAUAAAACUAUUUUGAAAGACAUGUAUUUUGAAGAGAGGGAGUAGGUGAUAAUGUAAGCAUUGAAUGCAGUUUGAACAAGUCAAAGACAAAGUGUGUUUGGUGGGGAAUGUAAUGUUAUGAGGGAAUUCAAAUAUUUUGCGGUGAAUUUUAUGUUUGGAUAAUAAUUUGAAGAAUUUUCAAAAUGAUGGGAAUUUAUGAAGUAUUUUGUUCAAGUUCAAUUUAAAGAAUUUCAAAUGACACCUCAAUUUAGGUGAAUUUCAAAUGAUUGAAAUUUGACCUCAAUUUUUUCAAAAUUUUCAAUUUGACCUCAAUAAAUUUCCAAAAAAUUAUAAAUUGACCCCUUAAAUUUUUCAAAAAUUAUAAUUUGACCCCUCAAAAAUUUUUAAAUUUACAAAUUGACCCCUAAUUUUAAUUUUCAAAUUUGGCCCAAAAUUUAUAAAAUUUAUAGAAAUUUUUUAUUACUCCACCCAAACAAAAGUAUUGAAAAAUGAAAGAAAUUUAAUCGAAUCAUUUAAAUUGCCUAAAAUUUAAAUUCUUUAAAAUUGUAUAAAAAUACUUGUACAAAUAUAAUUUCUUUAGACGUUAUUGAGGUUCACAUUAUUCAUCUAUGUAGCAACCAAUUUUGAUGUCUUUGAGACAAUUACAUAACAUGAGUACCAUUGAAACUCUCUUUUAAACUCUCUCUAACACUCACUAUUUUAUUUAAUGAGAUCGAUAUGUGUUCUACACUUUAAAAAUAGGUCAUACCUAAAUGGCGAAAAAAACUCGUGAGUUUCACAAAAUAAAAGAGUGAAUGUUGAAAAGAUAGUGUUCCAAAAACUUCUCAUUAAAUAACACCUUACAAAAUCUAAAUCAAAGUUAUUAUAGAGGCUCAAUCAAAACUCAUCCCAACAAUUGUACAAUCCAGUAGUAUCUAAUAAAUGUGUGAUGUAAAACUAGAUUGUUUAUUGGUGUUCAAGUAUGAAAACAAAGAAAAUGAGACAAAGAAAGUCAAUAAUGGACCCACAAUGAUAAAUUUGUGAUUGAAAAUCUGUGUCCUACAAACAUCCCAAUCUCCUAAUCCUAAUGGAACCUUGCAAGUUGCAUCAAUUAUUGAAUUUUGUAUAUACCAAUUACAUUUUUUCUCACCGUUCUUCUUUUUACUACAACACUUCUCAUAUUUUCAACUCUUUCUUUUCUGAAAAAAAAAUGGCUGAAGCUUUACUUGGUGUUGUGUUUGAAAAUCUACUAUCUCUUGUUCAAAAUGAAUUUGCAACCAUUUCUGGAAUCAAGUCCAAGGCUCUAAAGCUAUCAACCACCUUAGAUUUGAUCAAGGCCGUUCUUGAAGAUGCUGAGAAGAAACAAAUAACAGACCGCUCUAUAAAGGUAUGGCUUCAACAACUCAAAGAUGCAAUCUACAUACUAGAUGAUAUUCUUGAUGAGUGUUCCAUUCAAUCCACUCGACAAAAGGGCAUAUCUUCUUUUACAUUAAAGAAUAUCAUGUUUCGCCAUAAAAUUGGCACUAGGUUUAAAGAAAUUACAAACAGAUUCGAUGAUAUUGCUGAAAGUAAAAACAAGUUUCUUCUACAAGAAUGUGUUGCUGUUAGGGAAAGGUCAAUCAAUGUGGCUGAAUGGCGUCAAACUAGCUCUAUUAUUGCUGAACCAAAAGUAUAUGGUCGAGAAGAUGAUAAAGAGAAGAUUGUCGAGUUUCUUCUCACCCAAGCAAAGGGCUCUGACCUCCUUUCCAUCUAUCCAAUUGUUGGCUUAGGUGGUAUUGGGAAAACAACUCUUGCUCAAUUAGUUUAUAAUGAUCACCGGGUGAGUGACAAUUUUGAUACAAAAAUUUGGGUUUGUGUUUCUGAGGCUUUCUCUGUUAACAAAAUUUUGUGUACUAUUAUAGAAUCUUUUUCAAGAGAAAAGUGUGAUGCCUUAGAUUUAGAUGUUAUACAACGACAAGUGCAAGAAUUGUUGGAAGGUAAAAGAUAUUUGCUUGUUUUGGAUGAUGUGUGGAACAGAAAUCAAGAACUGGAAUUUGGAUUAAGCCAAGAGAAAUGGAAUAAGUUGAAAUCCGUGUUGUCAACUGGAUCCAAAGGUUCAUCCAUUUUAGUCUCCACUCGUGAUAAGGAUGUUGCUGAGAUCAUGGGAACAUGCCAAGCUCAUCAUUUGUCUGGUCUAUCUGAAUAUGAAUGUUGGUUGUUGUUCAAACAAUAUGCAUUUCGACAUGAUAGAGAGCAGCAGACUGAGCUUGUCACAAUAGGAAAAGAGAUAGUAAAGAAGUGUGGGGGAUUGCCUCUUGCAGCACAAGCAUUGGGAGGCCUAAUGUGCUCAAGGAGUGGAGAAAAAGAAUGGCUUGAAAUUAAAGAUAGCAGGAUUUGGUCUUUACCGAAUGAGAAUUCUAUUUUGCCUGCUUUAAGGUUGAGCUACUUUCAUUUAAACCCAACCUUAAAACAAUGUUUCACUUUUUGUGCCAUGUUUCCCAAAGAUAUAGAAAUCAUGAAGGGAGAUUUAAUUCAUCUCUGGAUCGCCAACGGAUUUAUAUCAUCAAGGGAAAAUUUAGAGGUAGAAGAUGUUGGAAAUAUGAUUUGGAAUGAAUUGUGCCAAAAGUCAUUUUUCCAAGAAAUCAAGAUGGUCGAUGAUUCAGGAGGCAUUUCUUUCAAGUUGCAUGAUCUUGUCCAUGAUCUUGCUCAAUCAAUUAUAGGAUCGGAGUGUUUGAUUUUGGACAAUACAAACAUAACUGACCUGUCAAGAAGCACACACCAUAUUGGUUUAGUAUCUGCAACACCGUCAUUAUUUGACAAGGGUGCUUUCACAAAAGUUGAAUCGUUGCGAACAUUGUUUCAGAUAGGUUUUUACACCACAAGAUUUUAUGAUUACUUCCCAACCUCUAUACGGGUUUUACGCACAAACUCUUCCAAUUUAUCAUCGCUAAGUAAUUUAAUUCAUUUGAGGUACUUGGAGCUGUUCGAUUUCCAUGACAUAAAAACCCUACCUGACUCAAUUUAUAGCUUGCGUAAUUUGGAAAUCUUGAAACUGAAACAUUUUUCUAAACUUCGUUGUCUACCGGAACACUUGACUUGCUUACAAAAUCUCAGACAUCUUGUUAUUGAAAAUUGUGAUGCAUUGUCCCGUGUGUUCCCUAACAUUGGUAAAUUAUCUUCCCUAAGAACAUUAAGUAAACACAUUGUCCGUUUAGAGAUUGGAUACAGCUUGGCAGAAUUACAUGAUCUAAAGCUAGGGGGAAAACUAAGCAUUACUUGCCUAGAAAAUGUUGGAAGUUUGUCUGAAGCUCGAGAAGCCAAUCUGAUAGAUAAAAAAGAACUUCAGGAAAUAUGCUUCUCAUGGAACAACAGGCGUAAAACCAAGACACCUGCUACUAGCACCGAGGAAAUACUUGAAGUGCUUCAACCUCACUCAAAUCUCAAGAUCUUGAAAAUACAUGGCUAUGACGGAUUGCACCUCCCAUGUUGGAUCCAAAUUCAAAGUAGUUUAGCUGUUCUUAGACUUUCUUAUUGCAAAAACUGUGUGCGGCUUCCAUCACUUGCUAAAUUACCAUCUCUCAAAAAACUCCAAUUAUGGUAUAUGGAUAAUGUGCAGUAUGUGGAUGAUGAAGAAUCAAGCGAUGGUGUGGAGGUUAGGGGUUUCCCAUCUCUGGAGGAGCUGCUUUUAGGUAAUUUACCUAACUUGGAACGGUUGUUGAAAGUGGAAACAGGGGAGAUUUUUCCCCGCCUUUCUAAGUUGGCCAUCGUUGGUUGCCCUAAACUUGGGUUGCCACACCUUUCAUCGUUUAAAGAACUCAUUGUAGAUGGAUGUAACAAUGAGUUGCUGGAGUCAAUCUCUAGUUUCUACGGCCUAACUACCCUUGAGAUUAAUAGAGGUGAAGAUGUGACAUAUUUUCCAAAAGGGAUGUUGAAAAACCUGACCUGUCUUCGAACUUUGGAAAUAUCUGAUUUCCCAAAAGUGAAAGCAUUGCCAAGUGAAGCCUUCAACCUAGCUUUGGAGCAUCUUGGUAUCCAUCACUGUUGUGAGCUUGACUCAUUACCAGAACAACUUUUUGAAGGUCUACGAUCCCUUCGAACCAUGGAGAUUGCUUUCUGUGAAAGAUUGAGAUGCUUGCCAGAAGGUAUUCGCCACCUCACAUCACUUGAGGUUCUGACAGUUUAUGGUUGCCCAGCUGUAGCAGAGCGAUGUAAGGAAGAAAUAGGAGAGGACUGGGACAUGAUAGAACACAUUCCAAAAUUAUCUAUUAAUUAGAUUGAAGAAGAAGAAACUUUUGACCAACAUUGAUUCCAUUACAAUAUGCCAAAUAAUAUAGAAUCAUUUGUAUAUUAAGACCAUGUAUAUUCCAAUCACUGCAAUAUUCCAAAUAAUAUAGUUGAUGGCUACUUUGGGAGUGCGACAAGUUUUUAAAAUGACAAUUGGUUUUCUUUUUCAAACAUUAUCGUUAUUAAUUACCUUAUUUGCUAAUUCUGAACUAUAGUUUCUAUAAUGUCAGGUGCUGGUUAUGUUAGACAUUAGUAAGGGAACAUUAAGUUCACUAUAAAUACAAUUUUUAUACAACAAGAUCAGAUGAAAUUUUCAUGAAAGGGUUAACUUGAGAAUAACCGUACAAUCUAAUUACAUCAUAAAUAUAUACAUGAAAAUAGAGAAUAUUUACAUUUACAUAGAAGAAAAUAAAGGAAAUAACAUCUCAAUAAAUAUAAAUGAAGUAUUUUAAUGAUUGUGUCAUAUCUCAGUAGCUACAUUUCAACAAAAGUACAAGUAUAUAUAUUCUACUUUUUGAAACACUUUUUGAAUUACAUUCUUAGAUACAGAAUCAAAGACUCUUUAGAGAUCAAUGAUGAAAAACCUAGAACCUAAUGAUCUUGAUCAUUGGCUAGUAGAAGUCAUUGUUAAUGUUUAUGACCAACAUUUACAAACUAAAUCUAUUCUUUUCUAUGCAAAUAUCUCAGUAUAAGGUUAGAGUUAUACAUGGUAAACCAUACCGACUUCUAGCAAAGAAGUAUGAACUACUUCCAACAUAAUAUCAGGUUCUCUGCAAUUUUUGCUUAGAAAAGCAUAAACAACAUCUAUUCCAAAUUUCUUUAAAAUGGAAGAUGAUUUUUUUGCCUCUGCAUAGGAAUGCCCAACUAUAUAAGUAAUACCUGAUUCUUUGGCUUUUAAAAUCUGCAAUGACUCGACUUUAUAGGACUCGUCUUGAAGUUGUUGGCCGUCACAUGAAAAUGCUAAAGAAUUCUUUUCAGAAUGUGACCAAUUCAAUUUCAAAGUGUGUUGUGAAGCACCAAGAUCUUCCGCAUUUAAGUUUCUUCCAUCAUCUAUAGUCAAUUCAUUUGUUUGUUCUUGAACACAGUCUUCUGAUUCUAUAAACUGUAUUAUUGCAGAUACCAAUUUAUUAUCAAAAUUGUAAUUCUCUUGUUGUAUGUCUUUGUAACCGUAUCGGACAAUGCACCGAAACAUGUAGAACUCCUUCGGACCAAUCCUGCUGAUGACUAAUCUUUCACUUUCACUGACAUAAGGAACUUGAACUGAUUUAGCACAUACAAAAACUAACACCUGAUGGAAUGCUGGUAAAUUUGUAAUAAAAUGACCAAAAAUAGCCGGGAUACCGGAAGCAAGAUUAGUGAAAAUGAGACCGAUUCCUGGGACACGGACCAUGCCUAAACAAGGUCCUAAUGAUAACAUCUUGCUCAUCGAGACCUUGUUUUCAACAUCAAAUUUGUGUUUCUUCAUUGUUCCAUAAUUCCAUGUGAACAUUAUGGCCAUAAAAAUGAAAGAGAGCGAAAUUGGGAUCCAUCCUCCUUCAGGGAUUUUGCAGACAGAAGCUGAGAUGUAAAGAAGUUCAAUAGAUCCAAACAAUAGGAAACAUGUAAGUGCUUUUAUUAUCCCUUGUUUCCAAACAAUUAUAAUUAUUAGCGUCAUCAAACAUGUUGUCACAAACAUAACAGUGGUGAUAGCCAACCCUGGAAACCAAGAAAAAUAGUUUAAAUUUAGUUUUCAAUACUUCAAGUAUCAUAUAAUAAGUAAACUUAAGAGUAAACAGUCAUUUUCCCUAAAUGUAUGAAGCUUAAUCACAAUAGCAACGAUUGUAUCCGAAUUACAAAAUUAUCCCUAAAGCGUCUUUUGUCUGUAAUUUUAUGGACCAAAUUGACUACUUGAUGAUAGAUUCUAGAACUAUACUAAUUAAUGGAAGAUACAUUUGAUGAUGAAACGGACUAAUGAAAGACAAGUUUAUGUAGUUUUUUAUUUUAUUUUUAUAAUUUGAUACAUUAGAGACUAUUGUGACAUCGCCUCACAUAUUUUAGGAUAAAAAUGAUUGAUUAAUCUAAACACAAUGGAAAAGGAUAUCAUACCAUAUGCAUGACCCAUCAUGUUUGUAUCCCUAAGGCCAAUUGUGACAGCUAAACAAAGGCACAUUAAUAUCCAAUUGACUUCUGGAACAUAAAUCUGUCCAUAUAUUUUGCUAGAAGUAUGAACAAUCUUGACUCGAGGAAAACAAUUUAAUGCACAGCAUUGGCUUAUGAUGGAAAAAGUUGCAGAAAUCACUGCUUGACUUCCUACAACAGCAGCAAAAGUGGCCACUAUAAAAACUGGCCAAAAUACAGCUUCUGCAGAAAAAUAGUAGCACUGUUACCCUAGAGUUAUCAUAAAUAAUAUCGAUAUAUUUGUGGUUUAUUAAAGUGAAUUCUUGCCUGGUAUGGCUUUGUAGAAACUUCUCUCAAUGUCAUAAUGGUGCUUAGAGAGAAAUGCAGCCUCACCCAUAUAUGCCAAAAUCAGGCAGGGAUAUACUAAACAUGUGAAAGCUAUCUGAGAUUUACGUGUAACUGUUAAAUCAGAUUUCAUUUUUGUAUGCUAAACUAAUAUACUUGUGAUCAAUAUUGUUAAUUAUUGUAUACUUUUAAUUUACCUUUAUUGAGAGUGCAGAAAAAUGACCCAUGUCAGCAUACAUUGUCUCCACACCUGCGACAGUAUCACGUAGGAAAAUUAAUCUCAUAGCUCUUUAGCUGCAAGAGAAAUGAUAUUUUGUACAACCAAAUUUAGACAAUUUUUGUGACUUUUUUUAAGUGUUCAAAUAGGUGAUUAAUUACGUUUAGUAUAUGAUUAAUAGAUAUAUCAGGUGUCAAAACUUAUUAACCACCAACAUAACUUCAUCAACCACAAAUUUGGAAGUGGUUAGCCAUAAUUUUCAGUUAAGUACAUACAAAUUUAUGGUUAAUGCUGUUACAUUGAUAGUCAAUGAGUUUUCACAUAUAGUAUAUCCAUGAACCACCUACUGAACGCAAUUAACCACUUAUUUGAAGUGUGUUAACCACUUAAAAAGUUGUUGCGAAAAUUGUCUGAAUUUGGUUGUUCAAAUAACACAAGCUAGACAACUGUAAUAAAAUUGACUAACUUAUAUUACCUGUUAUCGAAAGCACAACUCCACUUAAUGACAACCAUCCUUCGAUGCCAGUGGUUUUGAGAAACCUAAACAUAUAGACUGGAGAAAGUGCACGAUAUACUUGUCGGUUCCAUUGGAAAAUAUUGUAUAUACCAAUACCACUGAUACACAAAAGCCAUGCUGCAACAACUGGGGCAAACAUGAAGGCAACUCUAUGUGUUCCAUGAUGCUGAAUGGAGAAAAGGCCAACUAAAAUGAUACAUGAGACUAUAACAACAUAAUCUGCGCAAUACAUAGUGUAGAGUUUCAAAAUUAUGCAUUGAAUAGACAUAAUGGUAAUGAUCGAAGUUCGGUUGGCUUACUGUCAUGGAGUUGGUUGAUCUUAACUUGAACUCCUGAAACUGCUGAAAAUACUGAAAUGAGACAUGAGAAGGAUGGUCAUAGAUCGAAAAGGAUAAACAGUACAAUUAUUUAUUCUCUGUAAACACCGAAAUACUAUAAUGAUCAACUCUUGAAUCAGUAUAUUCUCUGUAAACAGUACAGUUAUUUAUUCUGAAAUGUACUUUUGUCUAAUCACAUUAAUGAUGAAUAAUGAAUUCUAGCAAUUAGUAAUCAGCUAAAGCUAUAAUUUAAGGAAUGCAUGUGUGUAUCUGUGACAUUGCCAAUGUUGUAUAACAUAGUUCAUUUUGGUUCAAAUAUUAUGUUUAGUCCCUGCAAAAUCAAAUGUUGUCAGUUCAAAUAUUAUGUUUAAAAAAGCUGAUGUUGUGGACCGAGGUACACACCAUCAUUUCCAUGUAGAUGACAAUGCCACAUGUCAACACCACAUUGGAUGAUAGUGACAUAUAGCAUGGCCACACGAAGCUGAUAUGCCAUGUCUAACUCCUCGUUUUUACUGACGUGUUCUAUUAGUGUUUGAUGUGUGUCACUAUUAUCCAAUGUGGUGUUGAAACAUGACAUAGUCAUCCUACAUGGGAAGGAUGUCAUUUAGUCGUAUUUGCCACAUCAGAUAUUUUAAAUAGAAAGUUGACACUACGGACAAAAAACAAAUACAUGAUUCUGUAAGGAUGAAAAGAAAGAGAAAGAAAAAAAAAAGGUAUUUAUAGGGACUAAAACCAAAAUUUGCUCUAUUUAUGGGGACAGAACACAUAUUCAAACCAUUCUGUUUUUUAUAAGACCAAACUCCCUUUUACUUGUACAACAAGUAACCCAUAGAUUAACAGAAGGGAUGCUCCUGAUCAAAGUACCUGAUAUUGCAGGAGUAAUCACACCAUCACCAAUUGUCAUGCAAGUUCCCAACAAAACAAAGAUUAACAGUCCUUUCUGGAAUCUAGGAUGCUUUUCAAAGAACAGCUUCAAAAGAGAAGAUUGCCAUGUAUCGGCAGAAUCUUCUGUUGAAUAAGCAGAUAAAGUCUCAUCUGUUGGUUGCUGAUUAGGCAAAAUGCUUAGUCUUGCAUGUCUGCAGAGAAGUGAGUAUAAUGCAAAUGUGCCUCCUGCAGUAAAAUAAGGAACAUAAGAAAGAAAUUCUUAGAUGCUCAUGAACCAAAGAGAUUGAUCUUGAUUUCUACCAAUGGUUUCUUAUAUAACAAAAUUAUAACAAUGUGUUCCCUUUUUAUUUUUUGUUUUAAAAUAGUCCCUUAUUUUACAAAUGUUACAUUAAAUUUAUCCAUUUUAAAUUUUAAAACUAUCCAUUAUUGUCCCAUAAGUCCUAGCUCAACCGGUGAAAAUGCCGAAAUUGUUAGGCCGGACAUCAUGAUCGAGAUUCGAACCCCGGCACCUCCACUUUGUGUGUGUGAGUUUACGAUGGCUUUACCAUUUCUUCUAUCUACCAAAAAAAAAACUACUCAUUAUUUUGUAAAAGCUAUACCAAGGUGGUCCUCUCUGUAAAACAAAGAACAAUUUCAUUACCAAAAAUACCAAAAGAAAAUUGAAAUCUAAAAUAAAGAUAAGGAACCAAAAUUAUUUAGUCUAAAAUUAAUCUUCAAAUAUUUAUCUGUUAAUUAAGUAAUCAUAGUAGACAUCAUGACAGAGAAGGAAAAUUAUGGCUCAAAAUAAUUAUAUAAAGUCAAAAAGAACAAAUAACAGAAUAUACAAUGCUUCUGAGUUCUGUCAUCAUUUUAUUCAUUUGGUAAAGCCAAAAAAACAUCCAAAUAUCCUUUAUGGGAGUUUUGGCUGAAUAAUAAUGUGAUUAUAAAAAUAAUUGAGUUGACUUAAUCAACUUAAAAGCCAAAGGAACUGAAAAGAUACACACCAAAAGUACCAACAUCAAUGAUUGAAGAUUGUACCUUCUCCAUUAUCAUCAGCAGACAUGACAAUGAAAACAUAUUUGAAGAGAGCAAUAAUAGUAAAUGUCCAAAAGAUAAAUGAAAGCACUCCAAAAAUUUCUUCAUCAUCUUCUUUAAGGCUCAAUUUCCCUGAGAAUGAGGUCUUGUAUACAUAAAGAGGAGAAGUACUUAGGUCACCAUAAACUACUCCAAGACUUUGGUAUGCUAGAGUCAGCACAUUUAAACAAGAUGUCCUCUUUAAAUUCUGAUACAUGAAAUGAAACCAAGCAUAAGCUUNNNNNNNNNNNNNNNNNNNNNNNNNNNNNNNNNNNNNNNNNNNNNNNNNNNNNNNNNNNNNNNNNNNNNNNNNNNNNNNNNNNNNNNNNNNNNNNNNNNNNNNNNNNNNNNNNNNNNNNNNNNNNNNNNNNNNNNNNNNNNNNNNNNNNNNNNNNNNNNNNNNNNNNNNNNNNNNNNNNNNNNNNNNNNNNNNNNNNNNNNNNNNNNNNNNNNNNNNNNNNNNNNNNNNNNNNNNNNNNNNNNNNNNNNNNNNNNNNNNNNNNNNNNNNNNNNNNNNNNNNNNNNNNNNNNNNNNNNNNNNNNNNNNNNNNNNNNNNNNNNNNNNNNNNNNNNNNNNNNNNNNNNNNNNNNNNNNNNNNNNNNNNNNNNNNNNNNNNNNNNNNNNNNNNNNNNNNNNNNNNNNNNNNNNNNNNNNNNNNNNNNNNNNNNNNNNNNNNNNNNNNNNNNNNNNNNNNNNNNNNNNNNNNNNNNNNNNNNNNNNNNNNNNNNNNNNNNNNNNNNNNNNNNNNNNNNNNNNNNNNNNNNNNNNNNNNNNNNNNNNNNNNNNNNNNNNNNNNNNNNNNNNNNNNNNNNNNNNNNNNNNNNNNNNNNNNNNNNNNNNNNNNNNNNNNNNNNNNNNNNNNNNNNNNNNNNNNNNNNNNNNNNNNNNNNNNNNNNNNNNNNNNNNNNNNNNNNNNNNNNNNNNNNNNNNNNNNNNNNNNNNNNNNNNNNNNNNNNNNNNNNNNNNNNNNNNNNNNNNNNNNNNNNNNNNNNNNNNNNNNNNNNNNNNNNNNNNNNNNNNNNNNNNNNNNNNNNNNNNNNNNNNNNNNNNNNNNNNNNNNNNNNNNNNNNNNNNNNNNNNNNNNNNNNNNNNNNNNNNNNNNNNNNNNNNNNNNNNNNNNNNNNNNNNNNNNNNNNNNNNNNNNNNNNNNNNNNNNNNNNNNNNNNNNNNNNNNNNNNNNNNNNNNNNNNNNNNNNNNNNNNNNNNNNNNNNNNNNNNNNNNNNNNNNNNNNNNNNNNNNNNNNNNNNNNNNNNNNNNNNNNNNNNNNNNNNNNNNNNNNNNNNNNNNNNNNNNNNNNNNNNNNNNNNNNNNNNNNNNNNNNNNNNNNNNNNNNNNNNNNNNNNNNNNNNNNNNNNNNNNNNNNNNNNNNNNNNNNNNNNNNNNNNNNNNNNNNNNNNNNNNNNNNNNNNNNNNNNNNNNNNNNNNNNNNNNNNNNNNNNNNNNNNNNNNNNNNNNNNNNNNNNNNNNNNNNNNNNNNNNNNNNNNNNNNNNNNNNNNNNNNNNNNNNNNNNNNNNNNNNNNNNNNNNNNNNNNNNNNNNNNNNNNNNNNNNNNNNNNNNNNNNNNNNNNNNNNNNNNNNNNNNNNNNNNNNNNNNNNNNNNNNNNNNNNNNNNNNNNNNNNNNNNNNNNNNNNNNNNNNNNNNNNNNNNNNNNNNNNNNNNNNNNNNNNNNNNNNNNNNNNNNNNNNNNNNNNNNNNNNNNNNNNNNNNNNNNNNNNNNNNNNNNNNNNNNNNNNNNNNNNNNNNNNNNNNNNNNNNNNNNNNNNNNNNNNNNNNNNNNNNNNNNNNNNNNNNNNNNNNNNNNNNNNNNNNNNNNNNNNNNNNNNNNNNNNNNNNNNNNNNNNNNNNNNNNNNNNNNNNNNNNNNNNNNNNNNNNNNNNNNNNNNNNNNNNNNNNNNNNNNNNNNNNNNNNNNNNNNNNNNNNNNNNNNNNNNNNNNNNNNNNNNNNNNNNNNNNNNNNNNNNNNNNNNNNNNNNNNNNNNNNNNNNNNNNNNNNNNNNNNNNNNNNNNNNNNNNNNNNNNNNNNNNNNNNNNNNNNNNNNNNNNNNNNNNNNNNNNNNNNNNNNNNNNNNNNNNNNNNNNNNNNNNNNNNNNNNNNNNNNNNNNNNNNNNNNNNNNNNNNNNNNNNNNNNNNNNNNNNNNNNNNNNNNNNNNNNNNNNNNNNNNNNNNNNNNNNNNNNNNNNNNNNNNNNNNNNNNNNNNNNNNNNNNNNNNNNNNNNNNNNNNNNNNNNNNNNNNNNNNNNNNNNNNNNNNNNNNNNNNNNNNNNNNNNNNNNNNNNNNNNNNNNNNNNNNNNNNNNNNNNNNNNNNNNNNNNNNNNNNNNNNNNNNNNNNNNNNNNNNNNNNNNNNNNNNNNNNNNNNNNNNNNNNNNNNNNNNNNNNNNNNNNNNNNNNNNNNNNNNNNNNNNNNNNNNNNNNNNNNNNNNNNNNNNNNNNNNNNNNNNNNNNNNNNNNNNNNNNNNNNNNNNNNNNNNNNNNNNNNNNNNNNNNNNNNNNNNNNNNNNNNNNNNNNNNNNNNNNNNNNNNNNNNNNNNNNNNNNNNNNNNNNNNNNNNNNNNNNNNNNNNNNNNNNNNNNNNNNNNNNNNNNNNNNNNNNNNNNNNNNNNNNNNNNNNNNNNNNNNNNNNNNNNNNNNNNNNNNNNNNNNNNNNNNNNNNNNNNNNNNNNNNNNNNNNNNNNNNNNNNNNNNNNNNNNNNNNNNNNNNNNNNNNNNNNNNNNNNNNNNNNNNNNNNNNNNNNNNNNNNNNNNNNNNNNNNNNNNNNNNNNNNNNNNNNNNNNNNNNNNNNNNNNNNNNNNNNNNNNNNNNNNNNNNNNNNNNNNNNNNNNNNNNNNNNNNNNNNNNNNNNNNNNNNNNNNNNNNNNNNNNNNNNNNNNNNNNNNNNNNNNNNNNNNNNNNNNNNNNNNNNNNNNNNNNNNNNNNNNNNNNNNNNNNNNNNNNNNNNNNNNNNNNNNNNNNNNNNNNNNNNNNNNNNNNNNNNNNNNNNNNNNNNNNNNNNNNNNNNNNNNNNNNNNNNNNNNNNNNNNNNNNNNNNNNNNNNNNNNNNNNNNNNNNNNNNNNNNNNNNNNNNNNNNNNNNNNNNNNNNNNNNNNNNNNNNNNNNNNNNNNNNNNNNNNNNNNNNNNNNNNNNNNNNNNNNNNNNNNNNNNNNNNNNNNNNNNNNNNNNNNNNNNNNNNNNNNNNNNNNNNNNNNNNNNNNNNNNNNNNNNNNNNNNNNNNNNNNNNNNNNNNNNNNNNNNNNNNNNNNNNNNNNNNNNNNNNNNNNNNNNNNNNNNNNNNNNNNNNNNNNNNNNNNNNNNNNNNNNNNNNNNNNNNNNNNNNNNNNNNNNNNNNNNNNNNNNNNNNNNNNNNNNNNNNNNNNNNNNNNNNNNNNNNNNNNNNNNNNNNNNNNNNNNNNNNNNNNNNNNNNNNNNNNNNNNNNNNNNNNNNNNNNNNNNNNNNNNNNNNNNNNNNNNNNNNNNNNNNNNNNNNNNNNNNNNNNNNNNNNNNNNNNNNNNNNNNNNNNNNNNNNNNNNNNNNNNNNNNNNNNNNNNNNNNNNNNNNNNNNNNNNNNNNNNNNNNNNNNNNNNNNNNNNNNNNNNNNNNNNNNNNNNNNNNNNNNNNNNNNNNNNNNNNNNNNNNNNNNNNNNNNNNNNNNNNNNNNNNNNNNNNNNNNNNNNNNNNNNNNNNNNNNNNNNNNNNNNNNNNNNNNNNNNNNNNNNNNNNNNNNNNNNNNNNNNNNNNNNNNNNNNNNNNNNNNNNNNNNNNNNNNNNNNNNNNNNNNNNNNNNNNNNNNNNNNNNNNNNNNNNNNNNNNNNNNNNNNNNNNNNNNNNNNNNNNNNNNNNNNNNNNNNNNNNNNNNNNNNNNNNNNNNNNNNNNNNNNNNNNNNNNNNNNNNNNNNNNNNNNNNNNNNNNNNNNNNNNNNNNNNNNNNNNNNNNNNNNNNNNNNNNNNNNNNNNNNNNNNNNNNNNNNNNNNNNNNNNNNNNNNNNNNNNNNNNNNNNNNNNNNNNNNNNNNNNNNNNNNNNNNNNNNNNNNNNNNNNNNNNNNNNNNNNNNNNNNNNNNNNNNNNNNNNNNNNNNNNNNNNNNNNNNNNNNNNNNNNNNNNNNNNNNNNNNNNNNNNNNNNNNNNNNNNNNNNNNNNNNNNNNNNNNNNNNNNNNNNNNNNNNNNNNNNNNNNNNNNNNNNNNNNNNNNNNNNNNNNNNNNNNNNNNNNNNNNNNNNNNNNNNNNNNNNNNNNNNNNNNNNNNNNNNNNNNNNNNNNNNNNNNNNNNNNNNNNNNNNNNNNNNNNNNNNNNNNNNNNNNNNNNNNNNNNNNNNNNNNNNNNNNNNNNNNNNNNNNNNNNNNNNNNNNNNNNNNNNNNNNNNNNNNNNNNNNNNNNNNNNNNNNNNNNNNNNNNNNNNNNNNNNNNNNNNNNNNNNNNNNNNNNNNNNNNNNNNNNNNNNNNNNNNNNNNNNNNNNNNNNNNNNNNNNNNNNNNNNNNNNNNNNNNNNNNNNNNNNNNNNNNNNNNNNNNNNNNNNNNNNNNNNNNNNNNNNNNNNNNNNNNNNNNNNNNNNNNNNNNNNNNNNNNNNNNNNNNNNNNNNNNNNNNNNNNNNNNNNNNNNNNNNNNNNNNNNNNNNNNNNNNNNNNNNNNNNNNNNNNNNNNNNNNNNNNNNNNNNNNNNNNNNNNNNNNNNNNNNNNNNNNNNNNNNNNNNNNNNNNNNNNNNNNNNNNNNNNNNNNNNNNNNNNNNNNNNNNNNNNNNNNNNNNNNNNNNNNNNNNNNNNNNNNNNNNNNNNNNNNNNNNNNNNNNNNNNNNNNNNNNNNNNNNNNNNNNNNNNNNNNNNNNNNNNNNNNNNNNNNNNNNNNNNNNNNNNNNNNNNNNNNNNNNNNNNNNNNNNNNNNNNNNNNNNNNNNNNNNNNNNNNNNNNNNNNNNNNNNNNNNNNNNNNNNNNNNNNNNNNNNNNNNNNNNNNNNNNNNNNNNNNNNNNNNNNNNNNNNNNNNNNNNNNNNNNNNNNNNNNNNNNNNNNNNNNNNNNNNNNNNNNNNNNNNNNNNNNNNNNNNNNNNNNNNNNNNNNNNNNNNNNNNNNNNNNNNNNNNNNNNNNNNNNNNNNNNNNNNNNNNNNNNNNNNNNNNNNNNNNNNNNNNNNNNNNNNNNNNNNNNNNNNNNNNNNNNNNNNNNNNNNNNNNNNNNNNNNNNNNNNNNNNNNNNNNNNNNNNNNNNNNNNNNNNNNNNNNNNNNNNNNNNNNNNNNNNNNNNNNNNNNNNNNNNNNNNNNNNNAAGCUUUAAAAAAUUGUUCGGACUAAAGAUUGUAGUCAAUCAUCGAAAUGAAGCCAUGAACAUGAAGAGCCCUAAUGGCAGCAAGCCUAUGAAAGAGGGAUAUUUACUGAACUGAUAACAAAUAAGAAAAGAGGGAUAUUCCAUUAGACCCACGUUUAUUUGAAAUAUUGAAUCAUGAUAUGUAAAUGAAAAGCUAAAUAGCACAUAGAAAACAAAAAUAAAACCUAAAGGGGGUGUUUGUUUCAAGGUUAAGAAUGACAUUCCCGGGAAUACAUGGCUAGGGAAUGAUUAUACCCAUGUUUGUUAUGAGGUUGAGAAAAAAAUAUUCCUGGGUAUAAAGAUUCCUGGGAAUGGAGUAACUUCCCAUAACUUCCAUUAUUCCCAUGUAAAGAGAUGGGAAUGUGCAUUCCCAUGAUAUUAUGCAUAGAUUUAAAAAAAAAAAAUUGUAACUUCCAAUUUUUCCAGGAAUGUCAAGUUAUUUGCCAAACACUUUUUUUAACAAAUACCCAAUAAUCAAAUUUUCAUAUUUUCAUUCCCGGGUAUAUUAUUCCUGGGAAUAAUUUGUGUUUUCCAAAAACAAACGCUCGUAUGCACAAAAGUUCAACCAUACUCAACAGGCACACAUUGCAAAAAUUCAAUUAGUUUAGAAAUUAUGGUAGGCAAAAGCCAUAUGUAAUACAUGAAUUUCUGAUACUAAUCGAAUGGCAUUAUUGUGUACCAAAACAUUUGAUUUUGUCAAUGUAAGCUCCCAUUUAUUUAUCCAUCAACUAAGCCAACAGUCACUAUAUCCUUCCUCCACAUACUUCCUGCAAUUGAUGAGCUGCAAGGUUCUGAUUCAUUCAUUUGACGCACAUCCAUCUGAAAUAUUGAAUCACGAUAUAUAAAUGAAAAGUUAAAUAGAACAUGGCAAAAAGAAAUUACUCAACAGGCACACUCUGCGAAAAUUCAAUUAGUUUAUAAUCCAUGGUAGGAAAAAUCCAUAUGUAAUAUGUACAUAAUUUCAGAUACUAAUGAAAUAGAAUUAUCCAACAAAAGACAAAUGCUAGGAAAGACCCGAAAUGAAUUUAUAGAGUGGCACCCCUCCUUACAUGUUGGUUUUGUAGGGUUGAGUUAGACCCAGUGUACAAUAUAAUAUGGCAUUAGAGCCUAUGGAUUCAGACCACCUACCAUUUAUAUCCACGCACCAAGUCCAAUAGUGUUGGGCAUGAGGAGGUGUAUUGGGAAAAACACAAGCCCGACAUAGGAUAAAGAUAAGACAUGAAAAAUUUAUAAAUAGUGGCACCUCUCUCCUUACAAAUCGGUUUUAUAGGUUUGAGUUUGGUCCAAUAUAGAAAUCUACUACAUUGUAUGGUAGAAUGUUAGAAAACAACCCAAAGUGAAAGAAUAAAAGGAAAUAAAUACGGUUAUUUAUUAUUUGCAUAUACCUGUUGAUGAAGGAAUCGGUGUGCGACCUUGUAUUCCCUCUGGAGGAUGAUGUGCUGAACAGAACAAUCUGAACGCCCACGGUGAAGAAUAUUGUUGCAGCCCUGGUGAAGAACAAUGCUGUAGUGCAGAACAGAACAAUCUGAACGCUCCUGGUGAAAAAUAUUCGAUACGAAAUGCUCGAUGCUCUGAAAUAAAAAUCUGAACUUGCUUCGAAUUUGAACAGAAAUUCUUGAUGCCGGUGGAAUCUGGAGAGAGGCCAUGAAAGGUGGAAGAAAUUUUGGAAUUAGGAUUCUAUUUAAAUUUGCUUGUUUUGAGAGUAUUUGGGCAUCCAAUUGACACCUCUAGUCUACACAGUGAACCACCACAUUAUGCAAACGUGCACCUUAGGUAUAGACAAUAACAAAACAAUAUAGAAUGAAUUCUUAUAAGUUAGUUCAUGAAAACAAAAUAUUUCCAUUUUGAUAUCAGAAAUGGUCAACUCAGACGUAUGCACCCUUCACUCUUAGUGGUAAUGGACAGUCUUAUCAUGUAUUACAGAUUUCGAUUCCCCAAACAAAAAUGGAUAUCUAAUACAUGUUCUCUCACUGAACCGAUUAGAAGUUUUCUACUGGAAUAGGUAGCAACUGAACAUAGAUCCAUUUUCUAAAGAUCAUUGAAAAUAUUUGUCGGGUCGAUUGAAAAGUCAAGUAAAUGAUAAAAUCUGGAUUUUAUUUAUAAAAAGAAUCGAAAAAUCCAGAAAAAAAAAGUACCUGUUGGGCAAUAAUGUUCUUUCUCUCCUUUUCUUUAACUUUCUUCUCAUUUUCUGCUUCAACUUUGUCUUUUAUAAGCUCAUCUACCUUGCUCGUAUAUUCCCGAAUAGACUAGAGAAAAAUAAAAAAUGAUUAUUAACAAAAGAAAAAAAUGUUUGUCCUUAAUAAUAAUUGUAAUGAAAGAGACCCUUGUAAAAAACAUACCUGUAAGAGAUAAGGGAAGGAAAAAUCCAUCAUAUUGUUCUUCCAAGCUAGCUCUAAUGCAACAUCUGGCCGUAUUAGAUCAUAACAAGUAGAGAGGCACGAUGCAAAACACUCUUUCUUCCCCUGAAAAACAAAGACAGAAAGAAAUCUUGACCAAGUAAGCAGUAAUGAAGUGUAGAAAGAAUGAAUAUAAUUCAUAACGAUGAAGAGGUCACACCGCAGAAUGUGACAGGGCCUAAUCUGGCAAGGAUCUAAUAAAUGUACACCUGCUCACUAAAAUAAACAAGCAAAUCCUCUGAGAGUUUCUGGUCACCAGAUUGAUAGCAAGUUUCCAUGCAGUCCUUGUAAAGUUUGUCUUUCUUUAACAUACAAAUGGACUGUUUCCAUCUUCCAGCUUUCUUGUAAAUAUAAGCAGCAACACGUCUCAUCUCAAGGAGCUCGUGCUUCUCAAUCUGAUCAUGUGUAUUGUUGAAACCAAUCAAUAAUCAUUCAAGAUUUAGAAGUUUGCGAAAAGGAUGUAGAACUCAAUUUGGCCAAAUAAGUAAGAUAAGGAAAAUCCACCUUCUGUGCAAGACCUAUCUGAUUGAAGUUGUCAUACAGAUCUAUCGAUUUACGAAGUCUAUCGUAGUCCACCUCGUCAACAUAAAUUUCAUGCAAAGCUUCAUUAAUAGAAAACACAUUGCUGCUUUGAACUUCAACCAUGUACGGCUUUAUCAAUCGGAUAUGGCCUGCCUAAAAAUCAGAAAAUUCGAGCAACAAGUAUAAUUAUUGCAUUAAUCAUUUGCAACUAAUUAUUUACAUAACCUAAUAAGAUUAAAAUUACAGAUAUUAGGCAAUAGAGUACAAGAAAUAUAGACCUUCUGCGCUAUUUCUACAAUACGGGCAUGUUCCACAUGACGGGCAAGCACAUUAAGAAGAUCAUUUAUAAUAUCAGGAUGUUCUUGCAAGUAGAAAUGAACAGCCUUAUAAUAUAGUUCUACACGACCAACAUUUACUAUAAUAUGUUUGAAUUGCAUGUGGUCCCAUGCUUCUCGAGAGUGAUUCAUUACAGUGAUUGCAGCAUUAUUAAACUCUUCAAAUUGCACAUAUAGGUAUGUGAGUUCUUUCCAGAGUUGAUGUUCAUCACACGCCUGAAAAAGCUUGAGACUGUUGAGGUUGGUUGAGAACAACUUAAUGUGCUCCAUUAACAUCUCAGGACGAUAUCUUGCGUAAAGAACUCCCAACUCAGUAAAGAUACUCUCAUGAGCACACUCCAGUUCUAUCCCUUUCUCCAUUAGAGAGAUGAGUUCAUUGAAGCGUCUUCUGUUCUGAUAAUACUUGCAAACUUCUUCCAGAUCGUCCGCCUUCAUAAAAAUGAUGAGUGAUUAGCCAUAAAAACGGAAAAUAACAAACAAAUCAACAGUUUAUCUGCUACUUAUUGUGUAUACUAAUAACUAGAUGUUCUAUACUUCACCGGAACACAUCCCAUUAACUUGCAUGCAAUGAAAUUGAAAUAUGAGCGGAAAACCUGGAUACUGAAAAUUGGAGACAUAGGGACAGGGGUGGUAUUACUGUCAGAAAAAAUAAACGAAAGUUUAAGCUAGAAAUCGUGCCACCUGAACAAUAACAUUGAGACCACAAAUCUGAGCUAAGGAGGAUUCCCCAGCAUCAAUGCAGGAAAAACAAACAUCCUUCCAUGUUUUCAAACUGUUUGCUUUCUUAGCAGCAUCAACAGCAUCUUGGAAUUGUUGAAGCUUCACCAAUGUCACUGCUAACUUAGCCCAGUCAGGGAUAAAAGCAAAUAUAAUUUUUGCAGCCUCAUAAAGCGCCUCAGCAUACAAGCGGUCUCCAACAUUUGGCAAAUUAGAAACAUUUGGCAUCAAAAUAAACUCUUCAAUUUCUCCAAGCCGACCAAUCUUUGCAUACGCAUAAAUGAGCUCACUGUCCACCUUGGGCUCUUUGGUCUUCUGCCUAACCAUGAGAAGGUACUUUACUAGGUCAUGGUAUACAUUUGCAACUUCAGCAGCCUUUAUAACCUCUAAAAACUGAGUGGCAUCAUCUGCACGGAUGAACAACUCAAUUGCAUCACUUACUAAGCCUUUUCUUAGUUUCGCCUUAGCCACCUGGCUCCAUACAGAAUCUUCUUCAACGCAGAAUGCAAACUCCAUAGCUCGAUCAAUGGUCUUAAGGUUAUCUAGCAGAACAUUAACAGCCUUAACAUUCAGAUUAAAUUUCUUGAAAACGGCAAAAGCUUCUUCAUAUAAGCGUGCUUCCACUGCCGCCUUCCCGACAGCAGAGCCAUCAAAGUUGUCCAGCCUAUUUAUGUAACCCAUGACUCUUAAAGGAUCUGCUUUUAUUGCAGCAAGGAUCAGUAAGCUUUUUAGAGUGAAGUUUGCACUAAAAGCAGAAUUAUGUAGCACAAUCUUGUCGAGAAGGUCAAUCACUUCAUGGGUAAGAUUGGCAGUCAUAAAAGCUUUCACUGCAGCUGAAACUUGGUCAGGACUCUUGCAUUUAGGCAAAGCAGUAGACACCACUUGAUCAAUCAACUGUCUUCUAAACACGUUCCCAGGAUUUAGAACCUCUUUCCAGAGGCCACCAUCCAUCCGUUCCAUAACAUAUCUGACACAAACAAUAUCAUAAAUAAGACGAGUGUCCCAGACUAGCAUUUUGAAAUACAAUAGCACAAUAUUAAUGAAGAAUUGUAUACACACCUGGCUUGGAGUUUGAACAAGGAAUUUUUAUUGGUCACAUUAACAAGCUCAUAAUCACAUUUCCCCCUUGUGUAAGCAACAACGGCAAGUGUUGGGUCCCUUUGCUCACAAUAUUUACCAAUAACACGAGAAUCAUAAUAUAGGUUGGUUGUGAGAAAAUGUACUGGAUUGCUAUUGCUGUCAAUGAUGAUUCUCCCAAGAGCAUUAUGCACAUGUACAUCUCGGCUCCCCUCCCACACAAGAUCCUCCAAGAUCUGAGUAAGCAAACGAAGACGAUUCCUGCAUAUAGAAAGUAAAAUGAGAAAAUAAUAUGGUAAUGUGGAGAUGCAGGGCAGAGAGAAAAAUAGCAUACCUCUUUACAAAUUCUUCAACUAAAGGCUCAACUGGGAAAGGAGAACGAAUCGAAAGUACAAGACCUUUAAUGAAAUUUUCAGGGCAUCGAUCAUCUAACAACUGCCCUACAACUAGAGGAAUCUUUUGAGGAUUGACCUAUAGGUAAGAAAUAUAAUGUUAGAAAUUCACGUUUAAGAUUAGCAUAGAAAGAUUCAAAAUUAAAUGCAAUCACAAAAAAAAAGUUACCCUUUGAACAUAUUCUUCAACAUAAUGAAGCAUGUUUUGACUAUAGAGAUAAUGUAUGAGAUGAGGAACAAAACCAAAACGAUCACACACAUUAAUCAGUGGCCGUGCAUUUGGAAGGUUGGUCUUCAUUAGAAAGUUCUUUGUCUUCUCAGCAUCAUAAUAGCAUGAUUCCCGGGUUACACGCUCUACCUCCGUAAUAUGUCCCGUUUUAACAGCUACUUCAAUGUACUUGAAGUGAAUGUCAGGAUUCUUACUGUACAAUACAGAAUCAAAAGCCAAAAUUAUUAAAGUAAUUACUACCAAAAGCAAAAUAUAGUCUGUCUGGAAAAUCAAUGCCAUUUUCAUUCUUCAUUUAGAAAUACCUAGAUCUCAAAUGUGCACCCAAGAAAAGGUAUAAUCCUUCAUCAGAAUUGAAUUUCUCAAAGAGUUUGAUGCAUGCAUCAACACCCAGCUGUUUCGAAUAUUCCUUGGAAGUCUGCAGAUUAGGUACUAGUAAGAUUAUUUUAUACAGAAACUAUAAUAACAAGAAAAAAUAUCCAUGUUACAGUACCUGCACAAUUAUUUUAAGAUUUCCCCCAAGGUUGACAAGUAAAAGUUGUUCCAUACACUCCAGUGCCCAUUUUCGAGGAAGGGUUCCAAAAAACUUAACAAGAGCCUGAAAAUCACUUCAUAAUAAGAAGACAACAUAUAAAAGACUAAGUAGAUACAGUCACUCUAGCACCUGAAAUCCAAACCUGAUGUUCAAUGGCAUCAGUUUUCACAAUGAUGCGUUUGAUGUCAGGCAACUCAGUAUAAUGCUGCACAAGAGACAGACACGAAACUUCAAGAAAUUACUGACAACAAAUUACAGUCAGUCAUUGGUAUGAAAAGCCAAGAACCUGAAGAGCCCGGAUGAAAAGGCCGGCCUUUUCACAAAGUUUAGCAAUACGUGGACGAUCAUAAUGACUAAACACGCCUUUUGCCAAUAUAGAAUCAGCAACAUUUGGAAAGGUCUUAAGAUUGAUUUCCAGCAGCUAAAAAUGAUUAGAGCAAAUUUUCAUAAAAUCACAAAAAAAAUAUUGUAUGACUCCAUCAACUCGUAGAUAAAGAUUAAGGCAAAGAAAAUAAAGGAACCUUUGUUUGAAGAUGUCCAUGUUCAGGUAGGUCUGGCUUCAGCAGUUCCAACAAAAAGGUAGUUGCCUCACGGAUCAUAUUCCUCUAAAAAGUAACAGUAGAAACAUACAAACAAAAUUAAGGGUUGACGACUUGAUGUUUCCAGCACAUAAAUAAAAAACAAAAGGAAAUGAUUGGCUCUUUAUUUAACAAAUAGUUCUCGGUACUCAAAUUAAAGGAAAACAUACACGGGAUGGUUAAAAACCACUAUCAAUGCGAGUUUUCGGAAAGAGAAGGUCUGAUUCCAUUAGAUUUUUCAUUUUUCCAUUAAGUAGAAAAUAACUUUUCUGAAAUGCAAAAACGCAUUAUUCACUCUGCCACUUAAAACAUUACAUAAAGAUUUCAUAAAAGUCGAAGUAGAACAGGCUCAAGUAAUCAAGUAUUAUAGGUUCUAAAAAGGAAAAUGAAGAAUGAAAUGGAGACAGAAAUUGUGUACAUGAUACUUCCUUUUCUAAGUUAGGUCAAAUUACAAGUUACGCUUGAUAUGGGAGAACAAUGAAACCUACAUCAAUAAAACAAAAGAUAAAAUUAAAUAGACCUGAAGAAACAGAUCGGCUAUUUUGUUGUAGUCAACAGGGCAACCCCCCUCCAUUCGCAACAUCAUCAGAGCAAAAUCUAGAGCACCCUACAAUGGAACAUGUUCUGAGUAAAUGAAUAAACAAAAAGUAAACUCACAAGAUAACAGAUAUUCUAGAAAGAUAAACAUCAUAAGUAGCACAGAUGAGGUGAUAUCAUUUUAUGAUGUUUGGAUGUUUGGACUUCGGAUGCAUUCAACCAUCAUGCAUGAGGUGCUAUAAUUUUAUGGGAAAUGUUAACGAGUGCCCCCCGGGGCACUUGUUAAGCACUUUAAAUAGUAAGUUUUAAAUGAAAAGUUGUGUAUUGAAUGUAUUGGAAAUUGUAAUAAUUGACUUUUUAAAAGAAUAAUUACUAAAUUUGGGAUGCUUAAAGAGUGCCCUGGGGGCACUCGUUAACAAGACCUAAUUUUAUAAGUGCACCACAAUGAUCAGAACUGAAAUAAGUUUACCAAUAAAGUAUUUCCAUAAGGCAAAACUUGAUCAUUUCAAAUCGAACUACACUAACCUGGGCAUCUGUUUGCAAUAUUGUUUGCAGAAGGAAUAUGUAAUCAAGAGUGUAUCCAACCUGCAGUAAAUAAAAGGAGAAAAAUACAUCAUGCACUGCAAAAAUAAUAAUAAUUAACUAUGUAAUAAAACAAAAGUAUAACAUUCAUUUAACAGUCCAAUAUUACCACUAUUUUCAUGAUUUUGUAAAGUCUAAUAAAACAAAUGUUUCAUUACCUGCUUUGAGUAUGUCAAAAUCUUAUCAUAUUCCCUCCUCUCAGCAAAAGCUGCAAUAACCUUUGGUGUGGCACUUGCUUUAGUAUAUAUUUUCAAUGCCAGGUCUUUAUCCACUUUCUGCAUUAGAUGUGUGUCUUAUAAGAUUGAAUAGACAAACGAAAGGAAUAUAUAGCAAACUAAAUAUGGUUAUUGAAUCGAGAUUCAAAUAGUGAAUCAGAAGAACUAUUUUCUAAAUUGAGAAUUGGAUCUUAUCACAAAUCGUAAGAUACAUUAUCAAAUAGUUAAGAGUACUAGAAUCGAGAAUCGAGAUACAACUAGCACCUAGCAUCGAGAAUCGAGAUACAACUUGCAUGUAUCUUAGGAUAUUGAUAACCAUAAGUAUAUUCAACUGAUAAAGAAACUAAGAAUCAAUUAUAGAUUUGUAUGAGAACAGAACCUUCACAAGGUCACCAAGCUCUUCAGUGCAUUCAAGUUUAUCCUCUGCUAGCCAUUUUCCUAAAAGUUUCUGUUUGUUUCGACUUACGGCUAGCCGUGACAUUUUCAAUGACUCAAAAGCAUCCAGUUUUCCACUAGAAAACAGAUGGUCAAAGUAUUGUAAGCAUGAUGGUGCAUCUUCCAAAGGUACGUUCUGAAAAAUAAUUUACAGAAGAUAAUUAACAAAAGAAAUGAACAACUUAAUGAAAUCGUCAUGUUAUUACUCUUCCAUCCCAUUAACAAAAAAAUAAAUGUAACAUCAUGAAGCACGAACAAUCCUUGGAUUAGGCAUGUCCCAGUGUCGGACAUGUGUCGUGUCCGACACCGACACAUAUAAUUACACUGAAUUAAGUGAUUUUCUCAAAUUAUUAGCGGUGUUUGGGUUUCAGCGUAUGUGACGUGUCCGGUGUCCGUGUUUGUAUCCGUGCUUCACUAUUUUAUUCCAACUCUACUUUCAAAAUAAUACAAUAUACAUCACUCUUAUGUCAAUUAUACUUCACCAUACAUUUAUGGCGAUACUUAACACUCUCAAUAAUUAAUAACUCUAGUUACGACAUUCCAGCUUGAAGGUGUGUGACGAGUAUCUAGUAUCUAACCGUUGUGUUUGACUGCUAUCAAUGUCACUGUCGUAUUUAGUGUCUGCCUCAAUGCUUCGUAGAUUAAUAAUCAUCCUUAUGUAAAAUUGUUGCACACUUUUAUUUAUUUACAAAUUUUCUUAAUUUAUAUAAAAAUACCUAAAAAUGAAAAUUAAACAAUCCGAGUAAUAAGCACAGUUAAUAACCGGAAACAGCCGUUAAGACCUAGCUCAACUAACAAUGUCGAUAUUGUUAGGCUAAACAACUUUAUUAGGCUAAACCGGACAUUGCAAUUGCGUGUGAGUUUCAGGUGUUGGUGUUUUGACAAGAAAAAAAAUAGGAAACAGACACACACUCUCGCGCAGAUGAAUGAAAAUUGUUAACAAGAUUGCAAAAGCAGAGUGCAAAAACCAUUAAUAUAACAGAAAAUAGGGUUUGAUCGAUAUUUGGAAUGGGAAUGUGAGAAAUUACUAACCGUUGAGGAUUCUUUCAUGGAGUUAGGAGUGUUAUCACCCGCCAUGACGAUCGAAACAGAGUUUUAGAGAGAGAGAGUUGAAAUUUUGAAGAAGAAAGUUUGCGAGUAAGAGAUUGGAACACAGUGACAGUGAGAGCGAGAGUGAGCGAGUGGAAUGAAGAGAAUAGAGGAAAAACUGUUUUAUUAUAAGAGCUACGUGUGCUACAAGCAAGCAUAAGCAUUUAUAUUUUUUUAAAAAUCAAGGGCAAGAUUGCAUAACCAUAUCUUAUAAACAAGAGUAAGACAAUUUUUUUACCUUUAUGUGUACCGUUUGGCUAGGUUUUUUUUUUGUCUAAAAGCUACUUUAAAACAAAGUUAAAAUAAAACUCUUUAAGAAAAAAGUUAAAGUUGUUUGGUUUCUUUAAUUUUUUUUUAGUUCUAAAGUUAUUUUUAAGUUAAAAAUUAUUUAGCAAAAUAUUGUACAAAAUUUUAAAUUUAUUAUUUUUUUGGUGGUGUUUGGGGUUCGAACUCGCGACCUUGCAUAUAUAUAAGUACCGUUUGGCCAUGCUUUUUUUCGGUCUAAAAGCAACUUUAAAACAAAGUUAAAAUAAAGCUCUUUAAGAAAAAAGUUAAAGCUGAUUGGUUUCUUUAUUUUUUUUUUAGUUCUAAAGUUAUUUUUAAGUUAAAAGUUGUUUGGCAAAAUUUUGAUUUUUUUUUUUUGUGGUGUCCAGGGUUCGAACCCGCGACCUUGCAUAUAUUUAUACAUUGUCAAUAUCAACUGAGUUAAGCUAGAGAAUAAUUUGUUUUUUCUUUUCCAAUUAUAUUGUAUAACAAAUUUUGUUAUAAGAAUAUCAUAUUUUUGGUGUCAUUUAAAAAAAAUAAGAAUUUAUAUUAUAUGAUAUUAUAUUUGUUACAUUGUUGGAGUCAUUGACAAAGAUAUGUUUAGUUUUUUUAAUAAGAAAAAAAUAUGCAUAGUUUGUUACAAUAUAAAUGUGUAAAAUAUAUAUAAGUAUAAUUUUUUUAAGCAUCUAUACUAGUACUUUUAAUUAAAAUCAAAAUUUUAUAAAAAUAAUAAUUGUUACAAUAUAAAUGUGAGGAUGAGAGCGAGAGUCUGUGAGGAUGAACGGACAGUCCGACUGCGGCCACAACGCAGGGAGGACGUCCGGUGUUCUUCUUCGCCGGCGGAGAGAUCCAAUUGGGGGGGAAGGGAGCCAAGCUGGGUGCCACUUAAAGGGGGGGUUGGGGGAGAUUGGCUUGUUGUGAGUCCUAGAAUGGGGAAAGCGCGGCGACAAGGAGAUCGAGGUCGGGAUCGGCAGCGGAAGGUCAAGCGGUUCCGUGAUUGGGACGAGGCAGGCAAGAGACAAUCUAGAACUAGGGAUUCACGCAGGUUCGGUUACGGCAGCGAUGCGGAUUUCUACCAAGACAGGCUUGCUGAGCGGUCUGAUGAGGAAUUGAGGAAGGACUGGUUGCGGUUUGAGAAUAGGAAUCGCGCUAGUGGUCACAGCUCUGGGGUUGCUGGUUAUGCGCGUCGGAUUCCGGCGCUGGACAGGCUUGGUGAGGGCGGUAGGAAGCAGGACACGCGCGACAUCAGCGGAGCCACCAAGGCCUUGACGAAUGCGGCUCUUUUUCGACGGUAUGUCACGUUUUAUUUUACUAAUUUUCCACCGUUCUUAUCGAAUUUUUAUUUACGAAAAGGGUUUGAGGUUUGUGGCAUGCUGGACGAGGUUGUGGUACCCCGUAGGUGCAAUGUUAACGGAGAACGGUACGGUUUUGUGAGAUACUCGAAUGUCCGGGAUGUUAGUAAGUUGUUGAAAGCCGUGAAUACUGUUUGCUUUGGUAAUUUCCAAAUUAAGGCAAAAGUUGCUAAUUUUGACAAGGCGGCAGCUAGAGUGGUUGAGAAUUUGGUGGUUGGCGCGGGUGCGAAGGAUACCGCGGGAGGAGGUGUUAAGGUCGGUAAGGGAGUUAAAUCAGUUGUUGAGGGUGAUGUGAUGGAAGCUGGAUCGAAAGCUGUUGAAGGCCAAUCGGAUGGACUAGAGGGACGGGUGCCACAAGCCAGAGUGGGUGCGUUGGAUAACGUUCAGGUUGGUGACGUGACGGUGAGCUUGGGUAAGGGGCAUAGUAAGGAGCAACAGGGCGGUAGCGGGAAAAGUAAGUUCGUUAAGUUUGAUGUUCGUCAUACAGGGGGGCGACCUUCAAUCCAAAAUUUGGUCCGGAUGUAUCGUUCAAGUGUGGAAGAUCUUCAGUGGGCCCGUUCAGGUGUGACUGCUACGGUGACUAAUGGUGAGAGUAUCAGGGGCGUUCAAGAUAGAAUUGCGGAUGCGGGUAUAUCAGAAAUUGACAUCAUUCCAUUAGGCGCUGACAAAGUUUUCAUUCGUAGUAUGUCCGAGGUUAGUGUUACAACUAUUUUGAACGAUGCUAAGGAUUUCUUUGCUUAUUUUUUCACCAAUAUUGUGAGAUGGGAUAAGAAUUUGGUGCCGUUCCAAAGGGGGGCCUGGUUGAGGUUGUAUGGUAUUCCGCUGCACGCUUGGAAUGAAAGCUUUUUCAAAUUAUGUAUUCUUGACGUGGGAAGGCUUUUACGUAUGGACACAUGCACUGUGGAAAAAGAAAGAUUUGAUUAUGCUAGGAUUCUGGUGGCUACAAAUUCUUUAGAGAUUAUAAAUUGUUCGGAGAAGCUUUUGAUAGAUGGUGUUUUGGUCACUGUGAAAGUGGUAGAGGAGUGGGGUUUUAAUAUUGGCGAUGAUGCUUGCCUUUACGAAGAGGAGGAGAAUGGGUCAAUUGAGGGUCAGGCUGACCCAGAAGAUGUGCAUAUUGAUCACGAACAUGAGGUUAACGCAGAUUUUUUGGUUGAUAAAAUAGUCCAAGAUUUUUUUGAUUCGGAGAGUAACGGAAGAAUUUUUGAAGAUAAGGUGGAGAAGGCGGUCUCAAAGACGGUUAAGCUUAAAGCGGUAGGUGGUCAAUCGAAAGUGGGUAGGUGUAGUGAAGCCUUGCUCGAGGGGGAUUUACAACCUUUACGGUUAGAGCCCUUUGUGGAUCAAUUGAUGGGUAGUGCGUCACCUGAGUGUAAGGUUGAUGGGCAUGGCAGUGCCGACGUUCCUGUGGAUAGAAGUGUUGAUGCUGAUGAGUGUCCAAGUGAUGGGGGGUCAGUUACUGUUAGGAAGCUUCGAACUCGUCGAAUGGUUUCAUGCCCUCCCAGAGCUGAUCGUUCAGUGGUAUCUGGUCCGUGGAGUCUGGAUUGGAUAAAUGAUCAACAUCUUAGUGACGUAGGGGUUGUGUCUUCUUCUCGGAAAUUUGACGCUAAGGGUAAGAGGCUCAAGGCUUGUCGUAAUAUUCAAGAGGAUGUUGUUGUUAAGCGAAAGAAGGUGAAGGGGUUAUUGCGUCAUUCAGUUCUUAGCUUGAAAAAAGUGGCACGGCUUCCUACUAAAGACCGGAAAGUGGUUAUGAAAAUUCUAAAGAAAAAUGAUCGGAAGUUUAAAGGAUCCAAUUCAAUCAGAAAGACGGCUAGGAUGAUUUCUAAAGACCUAUCCGAGAAUUCAUCAUCUUCUAGCUCUAUUAAUAAUAGUGACUGGAAGCAUUGGGUGGUACUUCAUGGGAGUGACAAGGUGGUGGCGGAGGAUGUGAAGACCCUAGGGGAAUCUAUUGGUGUGAAUCUUAGUGGGUACAACAAUAGAUUUGGGGUGUUAGCAAGAAAAGGGAUGGGGAAAAAGAAGAAGUUAGCUUUUGGUGAUGGUGGUUCAGGAGGGGCGGUUGAGGGUGUUGUGUAGGCGUGGUAGCGGUGGCUGGGAGGGUGUGGGAGAUGAAGUUGUUAUCUUGGAAUGUAAGGGGGUUGGGUGGUUACGAGAAGAGAAAGGAUGUUCGAGCUCUGGUGAGGGAUAAGCAGCCGUUGAUUUUAUGUCUGCAAGAAACGAAGUUGCAAAUGUGUGAUGUUAAUGUGUGUUCGUCGGUUUGGGAUAGGCAGUCGACGGAGUUCUCUUUUCGCCCGUCCCAAGGGGCGUCAGGGGGAUUGCUGACCGUUUGGGAUGCCUCGGAGGUUGAGGUGUGGUCGUCAGGCUGCUUUGAUCAUGUUUUGAGUAUUCAUGGCCGGUUCAUUUCUUCAGAUGAAGAAUUUCACUUAUUCAAUGUGUACGCUCCUUGUGAUGGAGGAGCUCGACAGAUAUUAUGGGUUGCUUUAACGACUCGUCUUCAGGCUCUUAGGGGUAAAAAGGUGUGCGUUUGCGGUGAUUUUAAUGCGGUCCGGAGUCGGGAAGAACGUAGGUCGGCGACGGUUUAUGGCGGUGUGUCGGAGUAUGGUCCUUUUAAUCAAUUCAUAGAGGAAAAUGGUUUGCUUGAUUUACCGUUGUGUGGGCGUAAUUUUACUUGGUUUAAAGGGGAUCGUCGUUCAAUGAGUCGACUUGACCGGUUUUUGGUUUCUGAAGAGUGGAGUUUGGUUUGGCCCAAUUGUAUUCAGGUUGCGCAUUUGAGAGGUUUAUCUGACCAUUGCCUGUUGAUUUUGUCUGUUGAUGAGGAAAAUUGGGGGCCUCGACCGUCGCGGUUCUUGAAAUGUUGGUCAGACACCCCGUGUUAUAAGCAGUUUGUUACUGAUAAGUGGAAAGCUUUACAGGUGGAAGGUUGGGGUGGAUAUGUUUUAAAAGAAAAAUUCAAAUUAAUCAAAUUGGCGCUGAAAGAGUGGCACAUAUCUCAUUCGCAGAACGUAGCAGUGAAAAUUGAUUCUCUUAAGGUCAGGUUGGCCGAGUUAGAUGGUAAAGGGGAGGUCGAGGAGUUAUCUGACGCAGAAUGUGUUGAGUUGCAUGGUGUGUCAGAAAAUAUUCAUUUGUUAUCCAGGCUUCACAAUAGUAUCUGUUGGCAGCAAUCGAGGAACCAGUGGCUGCGUGAAGGUGAUGCGAACUCUAAGUUUUUCCAUUCCAUUAUGUCCUCUCGUCACCGUCAUAAUUCUAUAAGUUCAAUUUUGGUUGAUGGUACUUUGGUUGAGGGCAUUGACCCUGUUAGGAAGGCGGUGUUUACCCAUUUUGCGACUCACUUUCAAUCGUAGAGUGUGGAGCGACCAAGUGCGUCGAAUCUCCAGUUCCGCAACUUAUCUUUGGUUGAGGGAGGGGGCCUGAUUAGACCUUUUUCGGUAGAUGAAGUUAAGGCUGUUGUGUGGGAUUGUGAUAGUUUUAAGAGCCCGGGUCCGGAUGGAGUAAAUUUUGGAUUCAUAAAGGAGUUUUGGGUUGAACUGAAAGAUGAUAUCAUGAGGUUUGUCACUGAGUUUCAUCGAAACGGGAAGUUGGUAAAAGGUAUUAAUACUACUUUUAUUGUUCUUAUCCCAAAAGUUGAUAAUCCGCAGAGGCUUAAUGAAUUUAGACCUAUCUCUUUGGUAGGAAGUAUGUACAAAAUUAUAGCUAAGUUGUUAGCUAACAGAUUAAGGUUGGUGAUUGGUAGUGUGAUUUCUGAAACUCAGUCUGCUUUUAUUAAGAAUAGACAGAUUCUUGAUGGUAUUCUUAUAGCCAAUGAGGUGGUGGAUGAAGCUAAAAAGUUUAAGAAAGAUCUUAUGUUGUUUAAGGUGGAUUUCGAAAAAGCGUACGACUCUGUUGAGUGGGAUUACUUGGAUUCGGUUAUGGAAAGAAUGUCGUUUCCUGUCUUAUGGAGGAAAUGGAUUAGAGAAUGUGUGGGUACUGCUACAGCUUCUGUUCUUGUUAAUGGUAGUCCUACUGAUGAAUUUCAACUGCAUAGUGGCUUGCGUUAGGGGGAUCCCUUGUCCCCUUUUUUGUUCCUGAUUGCGGCUGAGGGUCUUCACACGUUGAUGAAAGCGAUGGUUGACAAUCAGUUGUUUACGGGGUACUCGGUUGGGGUGGCAAACCCGGUUGUUGUUUCUCAUCUGCAAUUUGCGGACGACACUUUGCUGCUUGGCCAUAAAAGUUGGGCUAAUGUUCGGGCUCUUCGUGCGACUCUUGCCAUUUUUGAGUUGAUGUCCGGUUUGAAAGUGAAUUUCAAUAAAAGCUUGUUGAUGGGUAUUAAUAUCUCUGAUUCUUGGUUGAGUGAGGCUGCUUCGGUGUUGAGCUGUAAAGUAGGUAAGAUUCCUUUUUUGUAUCUAGGUUUGCCUAUUGGGGGUAAUCCGCGGAGACUUUCGUUUUGGGAUCCUGUCGUGAAUCGUAUUAAAUCUAGAUUGUCGGGGUGGAAUAGCCGGUUUCUCUCUUUUGGUGGUCGCUUGAUCCUUCUGAAAGCCGUGUUGACUUCUCUGCCUGUCUAUGCUCUUUCCUUCUUUAAAGCUCCAACAGGUAUAAUCUCUUCCAUUGAUUCUUUGUUUAAUAAUUUUUUUUUUUUGGGGGGGGGGGGGGGGGGGGGGGGGAGUGAGGACCGUAGGAAAAUUACUUGGAUAGAUUGGAAUACUGUUUGUUCUAAAAAGGAGUUAGGAGGGUUGGGGGUUAGGAAGUUGAAGGAAUUUAAUGUAGCUUUGCUAGGGAAAUGGUGUUGGAGGUUGUUAGUAGAUAGAGAUGGCUUGUGGUAUCAGGUUUUAGUCGCCCGUUAUGGCGAGAUCGGUGGGAGAUUGGAGGUGGGGGGCCGGAGUUGUUCUUCUUGGUGGCGGGAGGUAGGGAGGAUCUGUGAGGGUGGGGGCGGUGUAGGGGGUGAUUGGUUCGGCAGUAGUGUGAUUAGGAAGGUGGGGGAUGGUGCUGAUACGUUGUUCUGGUCUCAUAGGUGGUGUGGUGAUCGUCCUUUUAGUGAGCGGUUUGGCAGGUUGUUUGACUUAGCUGAGAACAAAGCCAUUUCAGUGGCUUCUAUGUUCUCUCUUGGCGUGGUGCAGGGGGGGAGGGUGGAGUUGGAGGCGAAGAUUGUGGGCUUGGGAGGAAUUUUUAUUAGAGGAGCUUAGGGCUUUACUGCUUGAUGUUUCUUUGUUGCCUAAUGUUUCAGAUAGAUGGUUGUGGCUACCUGACCCUGUGGGGGGUUAUACUGUUCGAGGAGCUUAUGUUAUAUUAAUAGAGGGCGCUCAUCCUCUUUUGACCGAAGCAAUGGAUCUAGUUUGGCAUCGUCAGGUCCCCUUAAAGGUCUCGAUUUUUGCUUGGAGACUUCUCCGGGAUCGGUUACCUUCAAAAGCAAAUUUGGCAGCUCGUGGUGUUCUCAGUUCUGAGGCGACUCUUUGUGUUAUGGGCUGUGGUCAUGUUGAAACGGCCGAACAUUUAUUUUUAUUUUGCCCAAAUACUGUUUUGUUGUGGCAGCAGGUGCGCAAUUGGCUAGGUUCUAUGGGGGCGGAUCCGAAUAAUCUUCAUGAUCACUUAGUGCAGUUUACUUACUCGACAGGUGUUGGUAAAGCUAAACGUUCUUUUCUGCAGCUAAUUUGGAUUCUGUGUACUUGGAUUGUGUGGAUCGAACGUAAUAACCGCUUGUUUGGUAAUGUUGUAACGGAUGUCCCAAGGUUAUUGGAUAAGGUUAAAUUGUUAUCAUUACGGUGGCUGAAAGCAAAAAAAAAACGUGUUUGUUUAUGGUACUCAUAUGUGGUGGUCUAGUCCUUUGUUAUGUUUAGGCAUUGGUUAAUUCCUGUUUUUUGUUCUUUGUGUUGGACUCUGUAACAUUUUGUAUCUUGUAGCAGAAUUCUAGGCACAUCUUGUGCUUGGAAUAUGCUAUGUUUGUGUUAAUAUAAUUCCAUUUUGAUGUGUUCAAAAAAAUAAUUGUACGCAUUGCGCAACACUGAAAAAAAUAUACGCAUUAGUGUAACAAAAAAAAAAAGACAUACAGACAUAAAAUAUUACUCUAAACGCUAAUGUGUGUGUGUAUAUUUGUGAGGUUGAAGAAAGGGAAUAAAAAUAUUUGGUGUCAUUCAAUGACUGCAUAAAUAAAAAUAUUUGUGAGGUUGUGAUAAUUAAACGAUAUUAAAAUUAAAUAUAUAAGUGAUUAAUAGAUAAUAAAAUUCCUUCAAAAAUAGAUAAUAAAAUUAAAUUGAUCCUCCUUUAAAAAAAUUAUAUGGACCGGUUCAAAAAAAAAUUAAAUGGAAGAAAAAAACAAAUCAAAAUAUAAUAUUAAAAAAUAAAAUAUAAGGUUGCCUGUGUGAGUUGAAGAGAAGUGCUUGUGAAAUAAAUUACAGAGAAGUAGUUUUUUGAAGUAGCAUUCAACAACUUUUAAAGCUCAUUCCAUUCAAUUUUAUGAAUUCUAAAAAAAAUACAUUUUUUCGAAGGUACUUUAUUGAUAUUGUGUUUCGCCUAGCUUCUCUUUAAAAAUGUAGAGAAGUUGGAAAAAAAGUCGAGUCAAACGGUACCUUAUAAGCUUAUUUGAUUAAAAUAGAUUUGUUUCGUAAUUUUCACUUUCUCACAGGUUUAUAUCUUAUUUUCACUAAUUUAUGGUUUUUUUUUUUUUAAACACCACUGAAAUUCACGCACACAACAAAGUCUCAGGUUUAGACUCGGAUAGAGGUGUCCAACCUAACCAUUGACAGAUGAGUUAGGCUUUCCAGACAAUUUAUGACAGUUUUUUAUAAGCUAAUUCAAUUACCUUGUAGUUUAAAGUUUAUAAAGUAUCAUUAUUUAUCUCAACAAUUUUACCCUUCAAUCUUAAUUGAAAAAAAGUAAAUAUUAAUUAAAUAUAUCAUUUCAUAUUUAUAAGUUAGUUCAACCGCUAAUUAUUUAAAACAUUACAAAUCCAACUAGCUAGUUUACUUGCUAUCAACUAUAAGAAGGCCGAUAAGUUAUCAUCUAUAAUUUCAUGACUGUUGCUUUUCUGACAUCUAAUAUGUCUUGGAAACACAAGUAAAUGACUAAAAAAUUCAACAUAGUUAACUGCUGUCGAUUUUCUAGUUAUAAGCCAGCAGUAGUUAACUACUGUUAGAGAUAUUUUAAUAUUUUACUUGUGUUUUUAGGAAGUUUAUGAUGUUAAAAAAACAAUCGUCUAAUUUCAUAUGAUAUAAGGUUUAUCGGUUCAGUAUUUGCUAUUUUACCAAACAAAAUCAAUAUAUGAAAUUGGAAGGGAUGAUAGCUUUAUUAAGUUGGAAAGUUUAGGUGAGAUAGACUCGAGAGUUAUCCAAAAUCAAGGUAUACCUUGAGACUUAACAAAUUCAUUUUUAACUAGUAUAACUUGUCCCGUGUGUAAUAUUUAUUUUUACAAUUUGUCUCGUGUUUAAUAAUUACUUUGGCUUUUUAUCAAUGACAAAUCUUCUAGAUGUAUGAUAACUAUUUUAAAGGUUUCAUCCUCAAAAUAAAAAUAAAGUUAAAAGGUUUUAUUUUAUAAAGGGUAAAUAUCUCUUUUCGUCCCUGUAAUAUUAGUGAAUUUUGGUUUUAGUCCCUGUAAAAAAAGGAUUUAGAUUUGGUCCCUGUAAUUUCAGAUUUUUCCACUUUUGGUCCCUCAUUCCACCACGUAAGCAGAAUCUGCAUACAUGGCACGUAAAAAUGAGGGACGAAAAGAGGUAUUUACCCUUUUAUAAAGCAAACUAUCGUUAUUUAUUUAGGAAAAGAAAUUUUUUUGACUGUUUUCCUUAAGUUUGUUGUCGUUUUCUUCUAAAAAAAAAAUAUUUUGUUAAAAAUCGAGAUGUUACAAUUUUUUUUUGUUUUGUAACACAGACUUUAGGACUAUCGGAAUGUACUCCCUCCGUCUCUAAAUUAUAGUCGUAUAAAGUUUAUGCACGAUUAUUAAGGAAAUGAUUAAUUGUAUUGAUUUCAAUGGUAAAAUUAACAUCAUUUACUAAGAUACUCUUAUUAACAUGUAGUUAGUGAAAUAGUUAAGUUGGAUGAAAUUUAAUAAAUAAGGAUAUAAUGAUGGAAAAAAUAAAUGAAUGUUGCAUUAGUAUUUGUAAAGCGACAAUUAUUUUGAUAAAAAGAAAAAAUGCGAGAUUAUUAUUGUGAGACGGAGGGAGUAAUCUGUAGCAUAUAAUUUAUGACACAAUUCACUUCAAAAUUACAUAAAUAUACGAGCGAUCAGUUUAGAGUUUAGUAGUAAGAGUUCGAUCAUCUAUAUAACUUUUAGACAAUUGUAAAGCAACGAUUAAUGUCACUUAAUAAAUUUUAGAAAUUACAUAUAAAUAGAAGAACAUAUACAUGUUUGUAAACUCUGCUACUGAUGUGUGAACAGAAAAUAAUAAUUAUUUCAUCAAAAAAGAAAAUAAUAAUUAUGACAAAAACAUUAAUUUAUGUUAAGAUACAUGUUUGUGACAAACUUUAACAUGUUUGAGAGGAUUGAUGAUGAGGUUACUAUUGCUUGGUACAGCACAACCAACUUUCUUCAAUUCUAGAAAAGUUUGUGUAGUGUCAGGAUCAAAGCCACCUGCAAACUGAAUGUCUUGAUGGGUGAUGAGUUGGAUAAAAAAGUAAAUGUCAAAUUCAGAAAGUUCUGAGGAAUGUUAUUGUACCUGAUGUACUCUGAAUGCAAACUUAACUCCUUGUAAUAAGAGGUUAUUAUUAUCUUCAUGCAAAGCUUCAUGAGAUUUUAUUUCUUUAGUUAUUCGUUUCAUGAAUUCCUUUGCUAGCCUCAGUGAACAUAGCUUUAUCUGCAAGUUAUUAACAUGAUAAAGCCUUUCAAUAGGUUUUUAUGGUAAAUAAUAAGAUACCCUUUUGAAACAUGUAUAUCAUAAAAGGUAUAGAUGAUUCUGAUGUUAUUGUAGUGAUACUAUCUAUAUUAUGUGACAUGCAUCAAACAAAAUCAUUCAAUUGUGUCAUGAACUAUGAUUAAUUUCAUUUUAUGGAUUGUUGGUUCAAUUGUAUACAAUAAAGAAUACAAUAAUAUUGGAAAAUGUAAGACCUCUAGACAAUUGCUUUUUUAACAUCUGAAACUUCCUAAAAACACAUAAAAUACUAAAAUGUCCUCAGCAGUAGUUAACUACCGCUGACUUAUAACUAGAAAACUGACGGUAGUUAACUACCGCUGGGCUUUUUAGUCUUUUUCAUGUGUUUCUAGAAAAUAUUCAAUGUCAGAACAACAGCCAUCAGACCUCUAACCUCAUCUAAAAAUUUAUAGUAUGAGAGUCUAUUCAUUUGGGUUAUCCACCAAUUUAUCCAUGCACCUAGCCCAAUAGUACUAGGUGUGAUGGAGUGUGUUGAAAAAAACCAAGUCACGCAUUGAAAAUAGAUAAACCAUUUAUUUGUUUUCGUGUUUGUACAUCAAUAUCCAUAUGUUUUUUGUGAAGCUACUACUCUCAACAGCUUCGUAAAAAUCAUGUCAAAUGGUCAAUGGGACGUGAUAAUUUUGGUCCAACUGCCAAACCAAACAACCACAAAGUUUUUAAGAGUGUCACUUCUCACCUUAUUAAUCAUAGAGAUGAGUUGGACCCAAUAGAAAAAAAAAAAAAUCAUAUUUUGUGAUUUCACAUAAGCUUGAGUUUAAGCAAAAUUAACCAAUUCAAAAUAUUUUUCUUCAUAAUCUUUAGGACACUAGACACAUAUAAAUGCAAGCAUUUUUUUUAAUGUUUUAUAGUGAUCUAUAAUGCAUAAACAAGGUAUGAAUUUCUUACCUGACCAACAAGGCCAGUGUCCAUCAUCCACUCCCAAGGGAUAUGAAAAUUCCUAUAUUUCUUACUUGAACUCUCCCUUAUCCUCUCUUUACUACUUACACUUCCCUCCAACCUGCAAAAUUUUAAAAGCAAAACUUUCAAUUAAUUCUAAGUAUUGCUCAAAAACUUUAGUUAAACUCAACUCUACAAUUUUUGUACAUGCUCGCCUGUCUUGUAAUGCUUGUAUCCUUUUCAGGGCCAUAGAAAUUGGCUCUUUUGGAUUAUCCUCAUAUGAUGAAACUUCUGAUUCAAGAUUCUUUAGUUCUCUAUAGUUACAAGCAGCUUCUCUUAAUGCAUCUACUUUUUGUUCUGGCCAUUGUGGAAAAUGCUUUAAGACUGAUCUUUCAUCUACCAGUGUUGAUAAUUCUCCAUCAAGCCAUUUGAUGAAUGUUUCCACCUCAGAUAUAUCUGCAUAUGAAGCUGAUUCUACUUGUUUGAUUAAGAAACUGAUGAAUUCUUUUUGGCUUUGAACUUCUGAUUUUAUCUGUCAAAAAAAUGUAUCAAGUAUCAAUAAAAGAGUGUUCAUUGUUUUAUAGUUAAAGCCUUGCUUGGAUUGGUUUCUUUGAGCUUAUCUAUUGGAAUAAGUACUUGUGAGAUUAUUUCGGAGAGCUUAUGGAAACAUCUUAUUACAUGUCCAUAAGUUAAUGGAUUUAAAUUGUUUUAUAUGAUUAAUACUUAUGCUAUAAGCAUUAGUUUAAACUGUUUAUCCAAACAGGCCUAAAGAUUUAACAUUAGAAAAUUUUGAAGCUAAAUAUGAGAAGUUUGGAACUAAACUUACAGCUGAAAGAUGUUUUGACCGAUUUUCGAUUUCCUCAAUCAUGUUUCUGGUGAAUGCUACUGCAGGAAUUCCAUUGUGAUGAGUUUUGUUUUCAAUGUUGGCAUCUUUUCGUGUAAGCGAACGAUACAAUUCGAUUACUUCUGGCACACGACGAACUGUUUUCAAACCGAUAGACGAUUUUGAUGGUGUUGGAGGUGGUGGAGGUGCUGCUGUUGGCUGCAUUUUCAUUCCCUUCUCAUUUUUAUGUGAAGGUGAAAAAAGAGUAGAAGCAGGUUUUGGAGGAGGAGUUGGUGGCAAAACUAUUGAUGACUUUUCCUUUCUAGGUGAAGUUGAUGAGUCUUGAAAAUCUUGAUUUUCUGAACUCUUUUCACACAUGAUUGCUUGAAGUGCAGGUUUAAGUGUAUGGUGUGAAUCUGAAUUGUUAUCAUCUAUGGAUUUUUGUAUCUUUUUCCAUAGUAUGGUUUUUCUCUCCAUAUUGUGUGCUUUGAGUGAAAUUAUCUGUGAUUUUAAACGAGAUACUUCUUCUUUAAGUUCUUGGUUUUCUUUCUGUAGUAACUCAUUUCUAGCCAUGUGAAUUUCAAGUCUUUUUUUGAAAGAUGUUGUGAUCUCAGACUCAUUCUCUACCUGCAACAUUUUCUCUCCUUUUUUCACUCUAUAACAUGGUUAUCAAUUUGAUAUCUUGUACACUGAUUUUUGUUAUAUAUUUGGUCUUGUUUUUGAAGUAAGGUUGGUAUGUCUUGGAGUUAAAUAUCCAAGAAUGCCCUCUAUGGUACUAAUAAAGGUAAAUCAUCAUUUAGAUUCUUAAAUAUGUGAGAUGCUUUUAUAAUUGUCUCUGAAUGUAUAUUUUGUUGGUUAGUUUAGUACUCGAAUAUGUCUUUUGUUAUUUGAUCCAUUAAAAUACUGAUAAAAAAUAUGUUUAGGGAUGUUUUAGUAAUUUUGAUAUAUUCAAAAAUAAUAGUGAUAGGGUCUCACAUAUUUCUAAAAAUGAAUGUUUACACUAUUAAUAGUGACCUUAUGGGCCUAUUGGGAACAAUGGUAUUGAUAGAGUAAUUUGGACAUUUCACAUAAAUUUAAUGCUAUUUGACAUGAAGAUUAAUUAUGAUGCCUUUGUAAGAAAAUUUAUAAGUGAUUGAAGAUUACUUUGGUUUGCUGGCAGCAAUAGUAUGUGAAAGCUGCCUUUAGAGUGUCAUGUUAGGUACAACAUUAAAUAUGUUGGUCAAAUUUAAUGCUAUUGUUUCUAGAUUAAUCUAUGUGAGGUGAGAGAUUUCUUGCUCUCUAAUUUGUUAUUAUGUCAAAACUUUUUUAGGUUAGUGGUACAUCUAUAGUGUAGAAGUUGUUUAAGUGAGGUUUUAGUUAGUAUAUAUGCUUGUCUCAUUUCUACUUUGAAUCUUGUUCCCUUUUCUUCAAUUGAAUUUGAUUUAGAAUUCAUAAGUUAUAGUACAUGUGAUGUGGUCCAAAAAAACUAGUCGGUAUACUGAAUGGUUGAAAGUCCUAACUUACCUAGAUGGAACUCUUUUUCAAUGUGUUUGGUUUCAAUGUGGAAAGUAUUAACAAUGACUUUAUUUUCCCCUUAUGUCAAACAUCAUUGUAGUUUUGUGUAAGGAUGAAAAUCAAUUCUUAGACAAGUUGAGAUAUUGCACAUGUGUUAUUUUUUUUAGAUUGAUUCUGAUAAAGCAUAUGUUUGUUUUCGCAGUAGAAAAUUGAUUGAGGUGUGUUAUCUUUUAAACUAGGGUUUGUAGCUUCAACGUAUAAUUUUUUUAUCUCACUUUAAAUAUCAUAACCAAACACAAAUAAUUUUUUUUUCAUAUUAUGAAAAUCAAUUCUAACACAAAGAAACUUAUUUUUUGAGUAAAAAGAAUUAAAUAUAAACUAAUUUGUUGCUCCUUCAAACACAAUAUAGCUUCAUUGUGAUAGUUGUCUUUCAUUUCACACUGAUUACACUUCUUGUAGUUGAGUGGCAUUUGGCUUAUUCUUUGCUUGUGAAACAAUGAAAAGAGUGGUAGGAAAAAUGUGUCUCAUUCAGUGAUGUUUAUUGAAGAGUAAAUAUUUUCAUAAUGACUACUACGUCAUACCAAACCAGAUUCUUAUGAUAUUUACAUUUUUAUAUUUUUUUUGUUUUAUUUUUUAAUUUAAUAUGUUGUUUCAAAGCCUCUUCUAAACUCUUUUAUUUUUCUUUCAUCCUACUCCUUCUAUAGUUGAACAUUACCACCCCUACACACCGAAAGUGUGAAUUUGAUGUAGAUUGGUUUUCUGUGACAUGUUGAGGCCUACUAUACUUUAGGUGAAGAACGUGACUAAAUUUUUCAAGUUUAAAGUGUUGUUCAAACUUUCAUAACAAAUCAUUUUUUCAUCUCUUGAAUCUUGAUUAAAUCUUGGUAUCCGACCUAAUAGUUGAUUAACUCGAAAGGUCUAAUCUAAUUGUUCAUUUGUGGAGGCCAUUUAAACACACACAAAAUUGAGAGGUUCUUAUAAUAUUUUAGACAUUCAUUCAAAAUUUCUAAUGAUACACAUGAAUCGACUUAAAAGCAGAGACCAAAAGUAGCAAUGUAAAACUUUUGGAGAACCAAAACUCUAAAAAAAAAAUUAAAGGGACUAAAAAGAAAAGAUAGAAUAUUAGUAGGGACCAAAAAAUGUUUAGCCCAAAAAUAAAAUAAUGUUAAUUGAAAGACAUUUUAAGAAUAACAUUGUUAAAUAAAGUAAAACUAACAUAACAAUUUAUAUACCAACAAUUGGUAUUUAAAAAAAUAUUAAGUAAAAAUAAUUAGUUUUCAACCUUUUUCAGAUGUAAUUUUAUUUUAGCAAUUUCUUUUUCCACACUACUUUAUUAUCACGCGUCCUACUGAAUUCUGAAAAUACCUCCGUUCGGAUUAUAUAGUCUGAAUGAUUUUUUGAAGGUUUUCAUAUUAUAAAAUUUGAAACCUCUAAAAAUCCAGAAAAAAUACAGAAUUUUGCACUGAUUCAUCCAAAACGUGUAAAUGUACAGUUUGAAAAAUACUAUCUGAAAACUCUAAUAAUAUUUCAUAUUACAUAUUCAGAAUUGUGUCAAACUCCCAAAAGACCAUUUCAAAGAUAAAUUACAGUGUAUGAUAAUGAAAUUUAACCAACAGGUUAACAAAAUCGCAAUGAGAAGACACAAAGCAGAAUUGAAUCAAAGAAAUUGAGAUGGAGGAAAGACCCAAUCCAAGAAGAAGACAGCAAAGAAAAUUGAAUGUAUUUUCUAUAGAAAGUGAAUAGAGAGAAAGAAAAAAAAAAAAAAAAAAAAAAAAGCUAGAAUGCAAAAGAAAGGGGAAAAAGAGAAAAUUGGAUUUUCUCAAGAAAAUGCAGCGGAAAAUAUCUUUUAAGGUGGAUACCAGAUUAGCUCUUAUACCAUGUUAUAAAACAUGAUAUACAUAGAAGGAACAAGAGAAAACUCAAAAAAUCUUUCUAUUUAUGAUAAAUGUAAAUGUUACAAAUGAUAAGAGAGACAUCUCAAAAAAGAGAAUAGAUGGACUAGUGAGUAAAUGAAAUAAUAGCAUAGUGGAUAUUUUUCCUUAAAAAAAAGCAUAGUGGAUAUUUUCUUAUUAAUCAAAGUUUUCCUUAAUCUGAACUUUGUUUUAGGAGACCUUAAUUUGUACUUAUAAAACUAUUUUGAAAGACAUGUAUUUUGAAGAGAGGGAGUAGGUGAUAAUGUAAGCAUUGAAUGCAGUUUGAACAAGUCAAAGACAAAGUGUGUUUGGUGGGGAAUGUAAUGUUAUGAGGGAAUUCAAAUAUUUUGCGGUGAAUUUUAUGUUUGGAUAAUAAUUUGAAGAAUUUUCAAAAUGAUGGGAAUUUAUGAAGUAUUUUGUUCAAGUUCAAUUUAAAGAAUUUCAAAUGACACCUCAAUUUAGGUGAAUUUCAAAUGAUUGAAAUUUGACCUCAAUUUUUUCAAAAUUUUCAAUUUGACCUCAAUAAAUUUCCAAAAAAUUAUAAAUUGACCCCUUAAAUUUUUCAAAAAUUAUAAUUUGACCCCUCAAAAAUUUUUAAAUUUACAAAUUGACCCCUAAUUUUAAUUUUCAAAUUUGGCCCAAAAUUUAUAAAAUUUAUAGAAAUUUUUUAUUACUCCACCCAAACAAAAGUAUUGAAAAAUGAAAGAAAUUUAAUCGAAUCAUUUAAAUUGCCUAAAAUUUAAAUUCUUUAAAAUUGUAUAAAAAUACUUGUACAAAUAUAAUUUCUUUAGACGUUAUUGAGGUUCACAUUAUUCAUCUAUGUAGCAACCAAUUUUGAUGUCUUUGAGACAAUUACAUAACAUGAGUACCAUUGAAACUCUCUUUUAAACUCUCUCUAACACUCACUAUUUUAUUUAAUGAGAUCGAUAUGUGUUCUACACUUUAAAAAUAGGUCAUACCUAAAUGGCGAAAAAAACUCGUGAGUUUCACAAAAUAAAAGAGUGAAUGUUGAAAAGAUAGUGUUCCAAAAACUUCUCAUUAAAUAACACCUUACAAAAUCUAAAUCAAAGUUAUUAUAGAGGCUCAAUCAAAACUCAUCCCAACAAUUGUACAAUCCAGUAGUAUCUAAUAAAUGUGUGAUGUAAAACUAGAUUGUUUAUUGGUGUUCAAGUAUGAAAACAAAGAAAAUGAGACAAAGAAAGUCAAUAAUGGACCCACAAUGAUAAAUUUGUGAUUGAAAAUCUGUGUCCUACAAACAUCCCAAUCUCCUAAUCCUAAUGGAACCUUGCAAGUUGCAUCAAUUAUUGAAUUUUGUAUAUACCAAUUACAUUUUUUCUCACCGUUCUUCUUUUUACUACAACACUUCUCAUAUUUUCAACUCUUUCUUUUCUGAAAAAAAAAUGGCUGAAGCUUUACUUGGUGUUGUGUUUGAAAAUCUACUAUCUCUUGUUCAAAAUGAAUUUGCAACCAUUUCUGGAAUCAAGUCCAAGGCUCUAAAGCUAUCAACCACCUUAGAUUUGAUCAAGGCCGUUCUUGAAGAUGCUGAGAAGAAACAAAUAACAGACCGCUCUAUAAAGGUAUGGCUUCAACAACUCAAAGAUGCAAUCUACAUACUAGAUGAUAUUCUUGAUGAGUGUUCCAUUCAAUCCACUCGACAAAAGGGCAUAUCUUCUUUUACAUUAAAGAAUAUCAUGUUUCGCCAUAAAAUUGGCACUAGGUUUAAAGAAAUUACAAACAGAUUCGAUGAUAUUGCUGAAAGUAAAAACAAGUUUCUUCUACAAGAAUGUGUUGCUGUUAGGGAAAGGUCAAUCAAUGUGGCUGAAUGGCGUCAAACUAGCUCUAUUAUUGCUGAACCAAAAGUAUAUGGUCGAGAAGAUGAUAAAGAGAAGAUUGUCGAGUUUCUUCUCACCCAAGCAAAGGGCUCUGACCUCCUUUCCAUCUAUCCAAUUGUUGGCUUAGGUGGUAUUGGGAAAACAACUCUUGCUCAAUUAGUUUAUAAUGAUCACCGGGUGAGUGACAAUUUUGAUACAAAAAUUUGGGUUUGUGUUUCUGAGGCUUUCUCUGUUAACAAAAUUUUGUGUACUAUUAUAGAAUCUUUUUCAAGAGAAAAGUGUGAUGCCUUAGAUUUAGAUGUUAUACAACGACAAGUGCAAGAAUUGUUGGAAGGUAAAAGAUAUUUGCUUGUUUUGGAUGAUGUGUGGAACAGAAAUCAAGAACUGGAAUUUGGAUUAAGCCAAGAGAAAUGGAAUAAGUUGAAAUCCGUGUUGUCAACUGGAUCCAAAGGUUCAUCCAUUUUAGUCUCCACUCGUGAUAAGGAUGUUGCUGAGAUCAUGGGAACAUGCCAAGCUCAUCAUUUGUCUGGUCUAUCUGAAUAUGAAUGUUGGUUGUUGUUCAAACAAUAUGCAUUUCGACAUGAUAGAGAGCAGCAGACUGAGCUUGUCACAAUAGGAAAAGAGAUAGUAAAGAAGUGUGGGGGAUUGCCUCUUGCAGCACAAGCAUUGGGAGGCCUAAUGUGCUCAAGGAGUGGAGAAAAAGAAUGGCUUGAAAUUAAAGAUAGCAGGAUUUGGUCUUUACCGAAUGAGAAUUCUAUUUUGCCUGCUUUAAGGUUGAGCUACUUUCAUUUAAACCCAACCUUAAAACAAUGUUUCACUUUUUGUGCCAUGUUUCCCAAAGAUAUAGAAAUCAUGAAGGGAGAUUUAAUUCAUCUCUGGAUCGCCAACGGAUUUAUAUCAUCAAGGGAAAAUUUAGAGGUAGAAGAUGUUGGAAAUAUGAUUUGGAAUGAAUUGUGCCAAAAGUCAUUUUUCCAAGAAAUCAAGAUGGUCGAUGAUUCAGGAGGCAUUUCUUUCAAGUUGCAUGAUCUUGUCCAUGAUCUUGCUCAAUCAAUUAUAGGAUCGGAGUGUUUGAUUUUGGACAAUACAAACAUAACUGACCUGUCAAGAAGCACACACCAUAUUGGUUUAGUAUCUGCAACACCGUCAUUAUUUGACAAGGGUGCUUUCACAAAAGUUGAAUCGUUGCGAACAUUGUUUCAGAUAGGUUUUUACACCACAAGAUUUUAUGAUUACUUCCCAACCUCUAUACGGGUUUUACGCACAAACUCUUCCAAUUUAUCAUCGCUAAGUAAUUUAAUUCAUUUGAGGUACUUGGAGCUGUUCGAUUUCCAUGACAUAAAAACCCUACCUGACUCAAUUUAUAGCUUGCGUAAUUUGGAAAUCUUGAAACUGAAACAUUUUUCUAAACUUCGUUGUCUACCGGAACACUUGACUUGCUUACAAAAUCUCAGACAUCUUGUUAUUGAAAAUUGUGAUGCAUUGUCCCGUGUGUUCCCUAACAUUGGUAAAUUAUCUUCCCUAAGAACAUUAAGUAAACACAUUGUCCGUUUAGAGAUUGGAUACAGCUUGGCAGAAUUACAUGAUCUAAAGCUAGGGGGAAAACUAAGCAUUACUUGCCUAGAAAAUGUUGGAAGUUUGUCUGAAGCUCGAGAAGCCAAUCUGAUAGAUAAAAAAGAACUUCAGGAAAUAUGCUUCUCAUGGAACAACAGGCGUAAAACCAAGACACCUGCUACUAGCACCGAGGAAAUACUUGAAGUGCUUCAACCUCACUCAAAUCUCAAGAUCUUGAAAAUACAUGGCUAUGACGGAUUGCACCUCCCAUGUUGGAUCCAAAUUCAAAGUAGUUUAGCUGUUCUUAGACUUUCUUAUUGCAAAAACUGUGUGCGGCUUCCAUCACUUGCUAAAUUACCAUCUCUCAAAAAACUCCAAUUAUGGUAUAUGGAUAAUGUGCAGUAUGUGGAUGAUGAAGAAUCAAGCGAUGGUGUGGAGGUUAGGGGUUUCCCAUCUCUGGAGGAGCUGCUUUUAGGUAAUUUACCUAACUUGGAACGGUUGUUGAAAGUGGAAACAGGGGAGAUUUUUCCCCGCCUUUCUAAGUUGGCCAUCGUUGGUUGCCCUAAACUUGGGUUGCCACACCUUUCAUCGUUUAAAGAACUCAUUGUAGAUGGAUGUAACAAUGAGUUGCUGGAGUCAAUCUCUAGUUUCUACGGCCUAACUACCCUUGAGAUUAAUAGAGGUGAAGAUGUGACAUAUUUUCCAAAAGGGAUGUUGAAAAACCUGACCUGUCUUCGAACUUUGGAAAUAUCUGAUUUCCCAAAAGUGAAAGCAUUGCCAAGUGAAGCCUUCAACCUAGCUUUGGAGCAUCUUGGUAUCCAUCACUGUUGUGAGCUUGACUCAUUACCAGAACAACUUUUUGAAGGUCUACGAUCCCUUCGAACCAUGGAGAUUGCUUUCUGUGAAAGAUUGAGAUGCUUGCCAGAAGGUAUUCGCCACCUCACAUCACUUGAGGUUCUGACAGUUUAUGGUUGCCCAGCUGUAGCAGAGCGAUGUAAGGAAGAAAUAGGAGAGGACUGGGACAUGAUAGAACACAUUCCAAAAUUAUCUAUUAAUUAGAUUGAAGAAGAAGAAACUUUUGACCAACAUUGAUUCCAUUACAAUAUGCCAAAUAAUAUAGAAUCAUUUGUAUAUUAAGACCAUGUAUAUUCCAAUCACUGCAAUAUUCCAAAUAAUAUAGUUGAUGGCUACUUUGGGAGUGCGACAAGUUUUUAAAAUGACAAUUGGUUUUCUUUUUCAAACAUUAUCGUUAUUAAUUACCUUAUUUGCUAAUUCUGAACUAUAGUUUCUAUAAUGUCAGGUGCUGGUUAUGUUAGACAUUAGUAAGGGAACAUUAAGUUCACUAUAAAUACAAUUUUUAUACAACAAGAUCAGAUGAAAUUUUCAUGAAAGGGUUAACUUGAGAAUAACCGUACAAUCUAAUUACAUCAUAAAUAUAUACAUGAAAAUAGAGAAUAUUUACAUUUACAUAGAAGAAAAUAAAGGAAAUAACAUCUCAAUAAAUAUAAAUGAAGUAUUUUAAUGAUUGUGUCAUAUCUCAGUAGCUACAUUUCAACAAAAGUACAAGUAUAUAUAUUCUACUUUUUGAAACACUUUUUGAAUUACAUUCUUAGAUACAGAAUCAAAGACUCUUUAGAGAUCAAUGAUGAAAAACCUAGAACCUAAUGAUCUUGAUCAUUGGCUAGUAGAAGUCAUUGUUAAUGUUUAUGACCAACAUUUACAAACUAAAUCUAUUCUUUUCUAUGCAAAUAUCUCAGUAUAAGGUUAGAGUUAUACAUGGUAAACCAUACCGACUUCUAGCAAAGAAGUAUGAACUACUUCCAACAUAAUAUCAGGUUCUCUGCAAUUUUUGCUUAGAAAAGCAUAAACAACAUCUAUUCCAAAUUUCUUUAAAAUGGAAGAUGAUUUUUUUGCCUCUGCAUAGGAAUGCCCAACUAUAUAAGUAAUACCUGAUUCUUUGGCUUUUAAAAUCUGCAAUGACUCGACUUUAUAGGACUCGUCUUGAAGUUGUUGGCCGUCACAUGAAAAUGCUAAAGAAUUCUUUUCAGAAUGUGACCAAUUCAAUUUCAAAGUGUGUUGUGAAGCACCAAGAUCUUCCGCAUUUAAGUUUCUUCCAUCAUCUAUAGUCAAUUCAUUUGUUUGUUCUUGAACACAGUCUUCUGAUUCUAUAAACUGUAUUAUUGCAGAUACCAAUUUAUUAUCAAAAUUGUAAUUCUCUUGUUGUAUGUCUUUGUAACCGUAUCGGACAAUGCACCGAAACAUGUAGAACUCCUUCGGACCAAUCCUGCUGAUGACUAAUCUUUCACUUUCACUGACAUAAGGAACUUGAACUGAUUUAGCACAUACAAAAACUAACACCUGAUGGAAUGCUGGUAAAUUUGUAAUAAAAUGACCAAAAAUAGCCGGGAUACCGGAAGCAAGAUUAGUGAAAAUGAGACCGAUUCCUGGGACACGGACCAUGCCUAAACAAGGUCCUAAUGAUAACAUCUUGCUCAUCGAGACCUUGUUUUCAACAUCAAAUUUGUGUUUCUUCAUUGUUCCAUAAUUCCAUGUGAACAUUAUGGCCAUAAAAAUGAAAGAGAGCGAAAUUGGGAUCCAUCCUCCUUCAGGGAUUUUGCAGACAGAAGCUGAGAUGUAAAGAAGUUCAAUAGAUCCAAACAAUAGGAAACAUGUAAGUGCUUUUAUUAUCCCUUGUUUCCAAACAAUUAUAAUUAUUAGCGUCAUCAAACAUGUUGUCACAAACAUAACAGUGGUGAUAGCCAACCCUGGAAACCAAGAAAAAUAGUUUAAAUUUAGUUUUCAAUACUUCAAGUAUCAUAUAAUAAGUAAACUUAAGAGUAAACAGUCAUUUUCCCUAAAUGUAUGAAGCUUAAUCACAAUAGCAACGAUUGUAUCCGAAUUACAAAAUUAUCCCUAAAGCGUCUUUUGUCUGUAAUUUUAUGGACCAAAUUGACUACUUGAUGAUAGAUUCUAGAACUAUACUAAUUAAUGGAAGAUACAUUUGAUGAUGAAACGGACUAAUGAAAGACAAGUUUAUGUAGUUUUUUAUUUUAUUUUUAUAAUUUGAUACAUUAGAGACUAUUGUGACAUCGCCUCACAUAUUUUAGGAUAAAAAUGAUUGAUUAAUCUAAACACAAUGGAAAAGGAUAUCAUACCAUAUGCAUGACCCAUCAUGUUUGUAUCCCUAAGGCCAAUUGUGACAGCUAAACAAAGGCACAUUAAUAUCCAAUUGACUUCUGGAACAUAAAUCUGUCCAUAUAUUUUGCUAGAAGUAUGAACAAUCUUGACUCGAGGAAAACAAUUUAAUGCACAGCAUUGGCUUAUGAUGGAAAAAGUUGCAGAAAUCACUGCUUGACUUCCUACAACAGCAGCAAAAGUGGCCACUAUAAAAACUGGCCAAAAUACAGCUUCUGCAGAAAAAUAGUAGCACUGUUACCCUAGAGUUAUCAUAAAUAAUAUCGAUAUAUUUGUGGUUUAUUAAAGUGAAUUCUUGCCUGGUAUGGCUUUGUAGAAACUUCUCUCAAUGUCAUAAUGGUGCUUAGAGAGAAAUGCAGCCUCACCCAUAUAUGCCAAAAUCAGGCAGGGAUAUACUAAACAUGUGAAAGCUAUCUGAGAUUUACGUGUAACUGUUAAAUCAGAUUUCAUUUUUGUAUGCUAAACUAAUAUACUUGUGAUCAAUAUUGUUAAUUAUUGUAUACUUUUAAUUUACCUUUAUUGAGAGUGCAGAAAAAUGACCCAUGUCAGCAUACAUUGUCUCCACACCUGCGACAGUAUCACGUAGGAAAAUUAAUCUCAUAGCUCUUUAGCUGCAAGAGAAAUGAUAUUUUGUACAACCAAAUUUAGACAAUUUUUGUGACUUUUUUUAAGUGUUCAAAUAGGUGAUUAAUUACGUUUAGUAUAUGAUUAAUAGAUAUAUCAGGUGUCAAAACUUAUUAACCACCAACAUAACUUCAUCAACCACAAAUUUGGAAGUGGUUAGCCAUAAUUUUCAGUUAAGUACAUACAAAUUUAUGGUUAAUGCUGUUACAUUGAUAGUCAAUGAGUUUUCACAUAUAGUAUAUCCAUGAACCACCUACUGAACGCAAUUAACCACUUAUUUGAAGUGUGUUAACCACUUAAAAAGUUGUUGCGAAAAUUGUCUGAAUUUGGUUGUUCAAAUAACACAAGCUAGACAACUGUAAUAAAAUUGACUAACUUAUAUUACCUGUUAUCGAAAGCACAACUCCACUUAAUGACAACCAUCCUUCGAUGCCAGUGGUUUUGAGAAACCUAAACAUAUAGACUGGAGAAAGUGCACGAUAUACUUGUCGGUUCCAUUGGAAAAUAUUGUAUAUACCAAUACCACUGAUACACAAAAGCCAUGCUGCAACAACUGGGGCAAACAUGAAGGCAACUCUAUGUGUUCCAUGAUGCUGAAUGGAGAAAAGGCCAACUAAAAUGAUACAUGAGACUAUAACAACAUAAUCUGCGCAAUACAUAGUGUAGAGUUUCAAAAUUAUGCAUUGAAUAGACAUAAUGGUAAUGAUCGAAGUUCGGUUGGCUUACUGUCAUGGAGUUGGUUGAUCUUAACUUGAACUCCUGAAACUGCUGAAAAUACUGAAAUGAGACAUGAGAAGGAUGGUCAUAGAUCGAAAAGGAUAAACAGUACAAUUAUUUAUUCUCUGUAAACACCGAAAUACUAUAAUGAUCAACUCUUGAAUCAGUAUAUUCUCUGUAAACAGUACAGUUAUUUAUUCUGAAAUGUACUUUUGUCUAAUCACAUUAAUGAUGAAUAAUGAAUUCUAGCAAUUAGUAAUCAGCUAAAGCUAUAAUUUAAGGAAUGCAUGUGUGUAUCUGUGACAUUGCCAAUGUUGUAUAACAUAGUUCAUUUUGGUUCAAAUAUUAUGUUUAGUCCCUGCAAAAUCAAAUGUUGUCAGUUCAAAUAUUAUGUUUAAAAAAGCUGAUGUUGUGGACCGAGGUACACACCAUCAUUUCCAUGUAGAUGACAAUGCCACAUGUCAACACCACAUUGGAUGAUAGUGACAUAUAGCAUGGCCACACGAAGCUGAUAUGCCAUGUCUAACUCCUCGUUUUUACUGACGUGUUCUAUUAGUGUUUGAUGUGUGUCACUAUUAUCCAAUGUGGUGUUGAAACAUGACAUAGUCAUCCUACAUGGGAAGGAUGUCAUUUAGUCGUAUUUGCCACAUCAGAUAUUUUAAAUAGAAAGUUGACACUACGGACAAAAAACAAAUACAUGAUUCUGUAAGGAUGAAAAGAAAGAGAAAGAAAAAAAAAAGGUAUUUAUAGGGACUAAAACCAAAAUUUGCUCUAUUUAUGGGGACAGAACACAUAUUCAAACCAUUCUGUUUUUUAUAAGACCAAACUCCCUUUUACUUGUACAACAAGUAACCCAUAGAUUAACAGAAGGGAUGCUCCUGAUCAAAGUACCUGAUAUUGCAGGAGUAAUCACACCAUCACCAAUUGUCAUGCAAGUUCCCAACAAAACAAAGAUUAACAGUCCUUUCUGGAAUCUAGGAUGCUUUUCAAAGAACAGCUUCAAAAGAGAAGAUUGCCAUGUAUCGGCAGAAUCUUCUGUUGAAUAAGCAGAUAAAGUCUCAUCUGUUGGUUGCUGAUUAGGCAAAAUGCUUAGUCUUGCAUGUCUGCAGAGAAGUGAGUAUAAUGCAAAUGUGCCUCCUGCAGUAAAAUAAGGAACAUAAGAAAGAAAUUCUUAGAUGCUCAUGAACCAAAGAGAUUGAUCUUGAUUUCUACCAAUGGUUUCUUAUAUAACAAAAUUAUAACAAUGUGUUCCCUUUUUAUUUUUUGUUUUAAAAUAGUCCCUUAUUUUACAAAUGUUACAUUAAAUUUAUCCAUUUUAAAUUUUAAAACUAUCCAUUAUUGUCCCAUAAGUCCUAGCUCAACCGGUGAAAAUGCCGAAAUUGUUAGGCCGGACAUCAUGAUCGAGAUUCGAACCCCGGCACCUCCACUUUGUGUGUGUGAGUUUACGAUGGCUUUACCAUUUCUUCUAUCUACCAAAAAAAAAACUACUCAUUAUUUUGUAAAAGCUAUACCAAGGUGGUCCUCUCUGUAAAACAAAGAACAAUUUCAUUACCAAAAAUACCAAAAGAAAAUUGAAAUCUAAAAUAAAGAUAAGGAACCAAAAUUAUUUAGUCUAAAAUUAAUCUUCAAAUAUUUAUCUGUUAAUUAAGUAAUCAUAGUAGACAUCAUGACAGAGAAGGAAAAUUAUGGCUCAAAAUAAUUAUAUAAAGUCAAAAAGAACAAAUAACAGAAUAUACAAUGCUUCUGAGUUCUGUCAUCAUUUUAUUCAUUUGGUAAAGCCAAAAAAACAUCCAAAUAUCCUUUAUGGGAGUUUUGGCUGAAUAAUAAUGUGAUUAUAAAAAUAAUUGAGUUGACUUAAUCAACUUAAAAGCCAAAGGAACUGAAAAGAUACACACCAAAAGUACCAACAUCAAUGAUUGAAGAUUGUACCUUCUCCAUUAUCAUCAGCAGACAUGACAAUGAAAACAUAUUUGAAGAGAGCAAUAAUAGUAAAUGUCCAAAAGAUAAAUGAAAGCACUCCAAAAAUUUCUUCAUCAUCUUCUUUAAGGCUCAAUUUCCCUGAGAAUGAGGUCUUGUAUACAUAAAGAGGAGAAGUACUUAGGUCACCAUAAACUACUCCAAGACUUUGGUAUGCUAGAGUCAGCACAUUUAAACAAGAUGUCCUCUUUAAAUUCUGAUACAUGAAAUGAAACCAAGCAUAAGCUUUUAUAUGACAAAUUUCAUAUAUGAAAUGCAAAAAAAUGAGUACCUGGUGAGAUAUUCCUUGUUCUACAAUUUGCUCAGAAGGAUUCAUUGUUGAAACAUAUAUAGAAAAUGAGGUAAGUUAUGAAGAGAAUGAUGAGAUAGAGAAAUAUAUAGAAAAUGAGUAAUGGAAGAAGUGAAGUAGUAACAAGGCAAGUGGUGUGUGUGUCCAAAGAAGUUAUAAAAUGCAUUCAAUGCUCUUUUAACUUUCUUUUGUUGGACUUCAUUAACCAACCUAACACCUUCCCCUUACUAGUGGUAAACAACUUUUUCUUAACUAUUUCUUUCUGUUCAAAUAGUAUUUUUUCAAAACUAAUGUACAGUGUUGAAUUGAAUUUGGAUAAAGUAGAUGUUACUGAUUUCAAUUAUAAGUAACUUAUUGUCAUAUGAGUAGAGAUAUAAACGAUGAUUUAUAUAUUUUCAGAUUUUAAGUUUUUAAAAAAUAAAACUGUUUUUCCCUUUAUGUCCUUUGUGCAUAAGAUUGAUUUUUCUAUUUUUGUUUCAAUUUUCGAGUUUUACAUGGAAAGUAGUCGGAAUUAGGUCAAAAACUAAAUAAAGUCGGACUAAAAAUUAUUCCCGCUAACAAUUGAACUCGAAUUCUCUUAAUUCAUCCUUAACUAAAACUCAUUUAAUACUUGAACCAAAUUCCCAGGACUUUAAACAAUGGAUUGGAAGUCAACAAUGGGCCAUGUUGUUUGGUACUCAUUUAUAUUGUGUGAUUUGGUAAAUACCUCUUUCCUUAUUCAUGUGUCAAGUAAUUAGUCUCUAAAAGCAAACCGUUCCUUAAAAUGGUCACUGAAACAGGAUUGGAAAAAAGUUUUCAUAAAAAAUUGCAAACAUAAAAAGAAAAUCCGAGCAUAAAGGGCUAGGAUUCUAACCCUGAAAAUGAUGUGAAUUUGUCUCCUUGUCGUCUAACAAUACAAAUUUCAAACCCCCACGGUACAUUUGUAAAAUAGUUGUAAAAUAAUUAUUAAUGUCACUUUAAUUAAUAAAAAUAUACAUUUCUCAAUUUUUUUAAAUGUCUUAAAUUGAAAUAUUAUGUUAAAAUUUAAUACGAUGCACUAAAAAAUUUCAUAAAAAUGAAAAUAUUAAAUAAUAUCGAACAUUUUUUUUCCUCAAACAUGAUUGAUCACCAUCUUAUUAUAUUACAAAAGUGGGACAUAUUGGUAGCUAAAUAUAAACAUUGCACUAUAUGAAUGUCUGGUUUUCAUUGACCUUUAUUACAUCCAAUUGAGGAAAGAACCAAAUUUUCCACCAAACAAAGGUAUGUGAUUGAAGCCUUUUUUCUUUCUUUAAUUUCAUAAUCCUAUGCAAAGUUCCUUCCACAAUGGAAAUUCACUUAGGGCACCAUGUUUUAUUUAAAGAACAAAGUAUGGUGAACCUGAAUUAGGCACCCAUAGUAUGGUGUUAAUUAAUAAAUUACCAAACAAUAAAGAUACUAUGAAGACUUCAUAGUAUUACAUUACUUUGUCUUGCAAAUUGUAUACUUCUUUUUAGGUAGUUGAUGUUCCCAUCUUUGUGUGGGUUAAUUAUAAUAUUGACGGUUCAACAAUAAUAAAAAUAAUUAAAUAUGUAAUCCACUAUACAACCAAACUGCGGGUGAGUUAAAAAUAGUUUUUAGAAGAUCAAAUAUCACUUAUGUUAAUCUUUCUCUCACUCACGUGCAAUUCACAUGCUACUUAAUCUAAUCCCAAUCCAUGAUACACUUUAUUAUAUAUUUACUUCAGAUGUGUUAUGAAGUCGUAAUAGGAUAAUGUUUGUAUUCGAUUAAUACUUUUACACUAUGUUUAUUUUUAAGAAAAGAUCAUGAGGAGGAGAGAAAGUUGAGGGAAAGAAGCGGUUUUUAUUAUUUGGAAAACUCUGAAAAGGUUAAGGAAAGAAAGAAUUAGCUUAUUAAAAAGUUUUCCUCACAAAAAUGGAUAGAAAGGUUGAAAAACAUCCUCAUAGCUCAGUUGGUAGGGAUAUUGCAUAUUAUAUGCAGGGGUCGGGAUUUCAACCUCAGACACUUCACUUCUCCACGAUUAAAUUGUGUAAGCUCUAGCCGCUAGGUUACUUGACAAAAAAAAAAAAAAAAAGUUGAGAAACACUCAUAUUUAUUUUUUAUUUUUCAAUUUACCAUCUUAUUUUUUAUUGUCUCACAAUUGCAUUGCUCCAAUGCUCACUACUACACUUUCUUUUUCCAUGGAUAUUGUAUGUAGACAGAAAAGUAUGCUUAUAUUGUUAUAAUAUUUAUUUAUUUGUGUGUGUAUAUAUAUGAAUAACUUUUCAGGUAUUUAUGUCAAUUAUUAAAUAUAGAUUUUUCUUUCCUCUAACACUUUCUCUUCUUAUACUAAACAACUAAAAUAAUUCCUUACUUUCUACUCUUUUUCUUUCUUCAUGUAAUCUUUCCUUUCACUUUCAUUCUCCAACCAAAUAAAGCCUUAGUUUUUUAGUUUUAAAUUGAUUUUUUAUCUGUAAAAAUGUGCACCACGUUAAAUUGGUUUUUAGUUUUAAGUCAUAAAAUAUAUGCAUCAUUGCGUUAUUUCCAUCAAAUCAAGUUAAAAAACUGCAUACGUUGUGCUUAUUGUUGAGUUGGUGUAUUCAAAUGUGAGUAGUCAAUACAUGUGUUCAAAUACAAGGAGGCUCAUUAAUCUCUAAUCCUCGUCGAAGGCGCACCACAUCAUACCUCAUGCACGCCUCACCGCACAGGUGUGUUGGAUCAAUCUCUAACGACUUCAUAACAUGCCAGGUUUAUAAGAGACAACUACAACAUCCCCAAUUAUAUAAGUGUGGCUUCACGCCACACCGAAGCUGCAUUCAUAUUUUUACCAUAUUUCUACUCAUUUUUUCUUUCUUAGUCACAUAGUGACUUAGCGUCGGAGUAUUAACAUGUUUUAUAAGUUCCGUUCACUUCAUCAAAGAAUCCCCUGCAUCAUAUCGAAGAACAUCUUUUAUCUCAUCGAAAAUUGUCUUGUACAAGCACAAACACCAAUUACUUGCACAAUCUUUUCGUUGUGGAAAAAAUUAUAGUUCUUGUGAAUAAUUUUGAAACCUAGUGAUUCAUAAGGUUAUCCACUCUCAAUCAAGUCUCAACAACCAAAUUAUUGAUUUUCUCCUUUUAAAUGUAAGUCUAACCGUACAUCAAUUAUGGCUCGUACAUUGCAUGUUUGAAGAGUAAGAGAUGAGAUUUUUUUUUUUUUAUUUGGAAUGUGAGAGUUUCAACUUUCAAUUAUGAAAUUCCAUAAUUUAAAAUUUUGAGAAAAAAAAAUCAAAAAAUAGAAUAAGAGUAUCUAAGUGAUUUGACACAAUUGAUUGUGUUUUACCUAAGAUGGAAGUAUUCAGAGUGAUAAUUGAAACAAUUCUUAACCCUUUUUACGUACUCUCUAACCGAAAUUCAAAUUAAUCAAGUCUUAGCUUUUCAAUAGAAAUUGAAGGAUUACAACAAAAAAAUGAAAAUUAGAAAAGAUAAUUUUAAGAAAAAAACUUAUAACCCUUCGAAAAAUAAAAACUAUAAACUCAUAAGUGUUUGAUUUCUUGCUCAUGCAAACAUAACCAUAUAGGAUAAACAAAUAGAAAUGGUAAAUAUCUAAUGGUAACAUUUUUCUUUCCGGCAACUACACUGAGAGCAUCAAUAUCAAGACUUUAGCACAUAAGAAGCAUCCAACUCAAAAGAUUCGUCUAAUCAUCCAUAAUGCGAGAGUCUUUUAACUUAAGUAUCACAUUAAAUAUUUUUAUUUACUCAAUAUAAAACUCCUAUUAUAUUUAUGUUCGGAAAUAAUUUGAUGCAAACGGUAUUAAAUUGAAUGAAAAAGAACGAUGAUCGACGCCGACGAACCACUCACCAAUGGAACCGGCUAUGCCCCUGACUUUUCUCAAGAAACGAAUUAAAUGAAGGAACAAGUAAAAUUUGAACUCAAUGAAAUAGAAUUUUAAUUCAAUAAAAUAACAUUUUAAUUCUCCAUAGAAUCCUAAGGAAAAAUGAUGCACAUGUAUAAAUUUUGUGUAAAAAUAAAAUUAUUAAUUCUUCAUUUAAUGACAAAUUUACAGUAACUUUUCUUUGAAGGAAAAUUUACAGUAACUUAAAAUGUAGGAUAUAAUAUAAUGCAUAGCCAACUUCAAUAAAUGUAUCUCUCAAAAAAAAAAAACUUCAAUAAAUGUAUCAUCAUCCAUAGUUAAAUACAUAUUUGUUCCUUUUUUUUGAAUGAAUUGUUCCUAUGAGUAUGACCAAGAUUAAAAUGGACCAUCCUUUUUCUAGACCAUCCUUUUUCUAGAGAUGAUAUGAGGUCCUCCUUUUUUUUUAACCAAAACAAAGUUAACUAUUAUCAUUAAUCAAUCAAUGUUCAAUAUAAGAAGGAUAAGAAUAAAAAAUACGGUGACUAACCCAAAAACAGACCGCCUUAGCUAAAAUAUGAACAACCAUGUUCGCUUGUCUUCUAACAAAUUUCACCUCAAAAUUAAAAUAUAAAGAUAACUGAUAAAUAAUACUAAAAACAAUAGCAUCAUACGAGGUCCUCCUAAGUUGGCAAAAAUUGUGAAAUGAAAAGGGAUAUAGGUAGAAACAAUUGUUGGGUCAACAAAUGUUAGAGACAACUGUAUGGAAGGUAUGCUUUCUACAUCACACAUUAAUGAUUGGUCCCUCCUUCAAUUCCUUUCAUUCAAUCAGCUCUAUAUACCUUCAAAAAUCAAAAGAUGGUGCACGAGUGAAGUUGACUAGACCUUUCAACUUUAUCCAAAAGAAGAGACAAUAGUCAUGCUUUUGAUGCAGCCUUCUGCCCAUAAAACCAUACCAUAUUUCCUACUCACUAUAUAGAUUCAAGUUGAAGUAUUUUUUCAAUAAUCAAAUCUCUAACCGUUAGAAAGAUAAUUCUCAUAAUAUUUGGAUGGAUAUUUUUCAUAAAAGUUGGAUAUGCACGUGUUAAAGGAACUAAAAAUAGUAAUUUAUAUUAAAAAAGAACAAUUAUUUAUUAAAAAGUUUCAGAGUAUUUAAUAUAAAAUGCACAAGUUCCGAUACAAUCUUACUAUUUUAAACUUUUUAACAUGUGCAAAUAGAAAAACCCAUUUUAAAAGAGCAAUGAUAUUUGUACAUCCAUUCCAUGACAAUUUUAGUGACAACUUUGUUUUUCUCUCUUCUUAUUGGUCAAAAACAAUGGAGAGAGAAAAAGGAAGAGAGAUGAUAAGACCAUCAUGUGAGUAUGAGAGAGAAAGUUGUACAAAAGUUGUCACAAAUUGGUUGUACAAAUAUCAUUUCUCAUUUUAAAAUAACUAUGACACAUGGAAAGAGUUGUCGUUAGUAAAAAAUCCAACAAUAUUUAUUAGGGUUAAUUAAGUUUUUGGUCCCUAUAAAUAUUUGAAGUUUCGUUUUUAGUCCCUAUAAAAAUAAAUCACAUUUUUUAGUCCCUACAAAAUUUUAUGUUAUAGCAUGGGAGAAAAUAAUUAUAAAACAUGGGAGAAGUUGUCCAUGGUUAAAAUUUUAAAAUAUUUAUUAUAAACGGGAAAAGUUGUCGCUGAUAGAAAUUUCAAAAUAGCUAUUAUAUAGAUAGGAUAAAAUGUCAUUGAUACAAAUUUUAAAAUAAAUGUCAUACACCAAAGAAGUGUUCAUUAUAAAAAUAUUAUUAUACAUAAGACAAGUUAUCGCUGAGUUAUCUUGAAAUAAUUAUUAUGCAUCGGAUAAGAUAUGGCUGAUACUAAUAUUCAUUGAAUUAACAUUUAUUUUUCACAACUUUUAUAUAUAUAUUGCAUGAGAAUGAGUAACUUAUGUGAGAAUGGUGAGAAUAAAUUGCAGUCAUCGGAUUAGAAGCAAUGGAUUAGAUUAAAACAUCACUUAAGUGACUCAUGUGCCAAGCAUGCGACCAUUCUCUUCCUCUUUUCCAUCAUUCACGCGUCCCUUAUUUUUCUUCUCCCUCUCUCCUGGGUUUGCGGUUCCAAAUUCCUUGACAUCUUUUGAUUAUUUCAUUUUUUUUUAACCUUGAAUUGUUAAAAAGAUGAACCUUAAAAAGAUUAAGGGAACAAGAACACAUGAAGGAACUCUUACUCUCCCAAAUUGAUAUUAUUAUUUUAAUUGAUAAAAUUUCACGAUUAUUUUUUCUAAUUAACCAAUUCACCUUCAUUCAUAUAUAAUAUGAUUUGUAACUCCAGUAUUACAGAUUUUAGAAGGGUUUUCUAUUGAAUUUGAGUCUGAAUCCAGAAACUUCAAUAACAUAUACGAUGCUCUCCUUGUGCCUGAACUGGUGGGGACGCUGCAAACGUGGUGGACAGUGAAGGCUGCGGGUUUCGUGUUAAUGAGGAUUGGCGUUGCCGGAAAAGAUGGUUGAAGUUGAAGAUGAAGGGAAGAAGAAAUUGUUGCAGCGUAUAAAGGAAGAAGAAGGGUUAACCAAAAAGUUGGAACGCAUGAGUGAAACUAAUGAGAAUGGCACAUGCUUGGCACAUGGGUCACUUAAGUGGUGUUUUAAUUUAAUCUAUUGCUUUUAAUCCGAUGGCUGCAAUUUAUUCUCAUCAUUCUCACAUAAGUUACACAUUUUCAUGUGAUAUGUCCCCUAUAAUAUAUAUAUAUAUAUAUAUUAUAGAUUGUUUGAGAAAGUUACACAUUCUUGAAGGAUUGUUUGAGAAAGUUACUGCUGAUGAUGUUGUUAAGAUCAAUCUUGGUUAUUGUUCUGUGGGAAACCGAAUUGGAAAAGAGUCUUAUGGAGAAACUUGAUAGGAAGAACAAAAGGAGAUGGAAGAGUGAGAGUCAUAGACUCAUAUAUAGUUAUUAACGUGGGAGAGAGAAUGAAAGAGAGUCACGUGCUAUGUAUUAAAUUAAAAUCUAAUCAAAACCGUAUAUUUAAUCUAAAGGCUGAUGUUUCAUCCUCUCACCCUCUCAUUUAAAAACUCCUCUCAACACCCUAUAUAUAUAUAUAUAAACUGAAAUAAAUCAUCUCCACCAAAGGUUGCUGCACGGGUAUCUUACUAGUUUUAAGGAUAAAACCUUUAACGUAACGACUAGAAAAGUUGCGGAAAAAUUCAACCAUAAAUAAACAACUGAAUUUUGAUAUACAAAGUGGAAUUUCUCAAAACAAUAGUGCUAUAAAUCGUGACAACCAUUCUUGCGAAUAUAUCACGAGCAACCAUUUCAUAUAAUUUUUUUUAAAGUCUUAGUUUUCUUUUUUAACCUUCUCUGCAGUAUAAGAUGGACUUGAAUCGGUACAUCAAAAUGUUGUUGUUUCAAAUACAGACGCCAUGAUUUAUGAAAUUAUAGAAAUUCUAACUCCAAACUGAAAUUUUGAAAAUUUGGAUGAUAAUUUGUCUAUAGAAGAAACAAAAAAAAAGGAUCAAAUGACAUAUAGAGGAAACAAUGUUAGCAUUUCAUGUAUUUUGUAAAUUUUGAUGUUUAAUUCAAUCUGCCCUGAAUUGGUUCAUCUUUUUUUUUUUUUUUUUGAAGGAUGGUUCAUCUUUAUUAUUUGAUAUUUGAGUAUGUCAUAUAUUUUGUAAAUUAUAGGAAGAAGAAGUAGAAAUCAUAGAUGAAAUGUAACGAUGCGACAAAGUUAGCUUAAAUGCAAUGACUAUAUUCCGGUAUAAAUGAUCCUAAAAUUUAUACCACUAAAGUAGUCUCACAUGACUAACACCCACAAAUAAAUCCUUUGGAUCCGUGGUUUCAACAUUGUGGAUCACCACUUGUGAUUCCAACAUUAUGAAAGUCACCUCGAUAUGCAUUCGUGAACAUAUAUUUUCAACCAAAACAUACAUGUAAAUCCAAAGAAUUUAACAUGAUAUCCAACAAUCAAUAAUUUUAUAACCGAGAAUAAGUAAGACAGAUAAUUUCACAACGCACAUGUCAAUUGACAAUACAUCCAUCUUGUACAUCCAUCCUUUGGUCUGCAGCGUUGAGCCUCUCCUUGGCUAAUUUUGCAGGUAGUAUGUGAGUUUCCCUCGUUGACGAGAUCGUGGUGGCCCACAUUCAGCUUUGAGUCUCCUUCACAACAUGAUUUGUUGACACGAUCUUUGAUGCGCAGCUCCACUGGAUACUUGUUUCUUCUCUUGUCCUUCUUUGUGGUUAAAUGGCACUACAAACACGAAACAAGGGUAUUAAUCAUCAUUGUCCAUUUCCACUUAGUCUUGACUCAAUCUGCGAUCCUUGCGACCACAUACUCGGUUAGUGGGCUCGAGAAAGAAUUAGCUUCCUUUGCACGGUUUUUCCAGAAUUCUCCUAACCUUUAGUCGGUUGGCGUUUCCAUCAACUAAAGUUUUUGGGUGAUAAAAUCUUAACCUCAAGUUACCACAUCAAAUUAUCAAAAAAAUUGGGUGAUGAAAUCUUUGACUCGAGUUACCACAUUAAAUUAUCAAAGUUUUUGGGUGAUAAAAUCUCUUACACAAUUGACAAAAUUUAAGGGACAUUUUGGCCACUCCACAUUUUUAAAGAAGAUGGAAUUUUUCUUUCGCAACAAUUACUCACACACACACACUAAAGAUUCAUCAUUAAGAAGUAUGAAAUGCAGCAAAAUAUCCCCUAGCCCUAUAAUUCAGCCAAAUCAAAAAGAAAAGAGGAAUAAAAAUGUUACCACUUCUUGAGCUCAAAACCAUCACAAGUCCAAGAGCUAACUUACUCUAUCAAAUGAUCUUAGACACACAAAAACCAAAUAAUGUUCUCAUUUGAAUCUACGAUUCUUAAAGGGUGACGUGUUUGAAUUUUGCAUAAAAGUUAAUAAUAUUAAAAUAAUCUCUAAAAAAAAUAGAAUUUUUAACAAAAUAUGAUUUUUUUUUAUAUUUUUAGCGGUUAAAAAUUCAUAUUUAUCCGUAUUUUGUUAAAAAAGAAGAAGAUAUUUUUACAAUAUUCUACACAUUUUUGUUUAAUUUCGUUAAAAAUACAAAAACUACAUAUUAGUUGACUUAAAAAUAGAGAUAAAAAAUGGUGAUUGAAAAUUGUAUAUGGAUUAACAGCUGAAGAAAUUUUUUAGAGGGAUUAAAGCAAAAAAUUGAUAUAUUUAUAUGAAAAAAAUAUAUAUUUAACCUUAUUUAAAAUGUAGUGUGUUUUAAUCAUUUUCAGGUUUCAUUUUUCUUCAACCAAUUCAAAAUAAGGGAAUUCUAAUUUGACUUUAGCACUAGUGUGAUUUGGCUUGUAGAUUAACUUCUACUAUAUGGUAAAAAGAGUUUACUAUAUGACUUUCCAUCAAUCCAAGCAUGCAUCAUCAUCAAUCAUGAACUUUUCUUCCUCUCUUAAGCUAAAUCAAAUGAACUUUUCUUCCUCUCUUGAGCUAAUAUUGAUGAAUUUGGCAUCCAACAAAUAUUGUACCUAUAGACUUUCUAUAGCCUAGAGGUUAUAUAGUCCUGGGUAACACCAAGAGCUAAUACACCUUGUCAUGUUGUUUACUUACAUGACACCAAAUUACAUACAUGAAUAUCAACAAAAUUUAAUGAUUAAUUACAAAACAUUAGUAUUUAAGUGGUUAAGUAUUACUGUAUUUUUUAAAUCAUUCGAAAUUCUAAAAUGUGAAUAAAAAAAUAUUAUAAUAAUCACUUUAUCAAAUUCAAUAUGAAUAAAAUGAUCAUUUAUGUGAAAUUGUUCUGAGAAGUUAAAAUUUCAAGUUGUUUAUAGAGAUGCACAAAGGAAAAUUUAUAUUGUCACUAGAUCACUUGUUUUAUUAUAUAUGAGUGUAUUCAAACGUCAACAUUUGAUGUAUUUUUUUCAUUACUCCAAAGAGUGCUCGUAAAUAAAUGACUUUGAAUAUCAAUUAUUAAGUUAUUUCUUUUAACGUUCAUUAUUUUUUAAUAAAAUAUAAGUUUGUUUUUUAAUAAAAGAUUUUUUUUUUUGAAACUCACUUAAAACUGAAAUCUAUUAAAACAGGGUUCCAUAAUAUAUAUGAAUCACUUCAAAAACAAUUUUGGUUUACAUUCAAUGUCAAAUUAUUUAGUAAAUCAAUAGGAAUUAUACAAUUAAUAUGAAUGAUAAUGUAGAAUAAUGAUAAGUGCUAGAAAGUAGUGAUUCAAUGUAUAUUUAAAGCACUUUUGUAAUUUGUUUCACAAGUUAUUUAGGGAAAAGCCGAGAGAAAAGUGAAUAAUUGCCCUAUUACGUUUUAUGUAUCUUACUUUAUUCAUUUGUGCAGGAAUUGAAUGUCAAGACACCAAGCAAAGAAGAAAAUCAAAGAAAAUGUACAUAGGUCAACUCACCAUGGCGAGUCAAGGGCGAGCCCAAGGCAAGCAGAGGCAGAGAGUUCCAGAGACCACUCGCCCCCAACUUGCAACGGCGAGUGGAAGGCGAGAAACCUCGCAAUGGCGAGCCCAGGGCGAGGAGGAACAGAGAGCAAAGGUUCAAAGUUCGCCAUGGCGAAUAAUAUACUCGCGAGGCGAGUUAAGGCGGCCAAAACUCCUCAGAGCUGACGUGGCAGAAACCCACUGGUGAAGAAACAUCAACUCGCCAUGGCGAGCAUAGACUCGCGAGGCGAGUUGAAUCAAAACAGGAAAAGUAUAAAAACCCAUUCAGUCAUUUCAGUUAUGAGAUUAUUACUUCCUUAGAGAGAGAAUAGGGUGAAAAUUCACCGUUUUCAUAGAGCAAGAGUGAGUGAGUGUGGAUUCAUCAAGAUUUGUUGAGAAAUCAAUCUCUUAUCAUUGAUCUUCAUAUUUCCUACCACUUUUGUAAUGUUCUCAAGACAAUGAUGAAUUAAAUCUCCUUAGUUUGGAUUAGAGGUACUUUAUUAAGUUGAUAAUGUAAUCUUUUGAUCUUGCAAAUAUAUGAUUCUAGCAAUUUACAUGAUAUUGAUGAUAUUCUUGUAUUUCAUUCCUUAUCUUUGAUUUAGAUGCUAUUUAGAAAUACUUUUGAAUCUGGGUUUAGAAUAUUUAUCUAUCAAAACAAUGAUUCUAGACAUAGGAUUGAUGUUUUGAUAAUCACACAAAGUAUCGAAACUUAAAGCUUUCAUAUCAUUUAAUAGAUUGAGAAAUCAUCGAUUAAACGAUACGAUCAAAUAUUGGAUUGUUUAAUAGUUUGGGAAAUCAACGAUUAAAAAACACAAUUGAACUUACAAGAUCAUUUGGACACGAAUGAUGUCGUCGACCGAUACGUGAUAAUAUCGAUAAAACGCUAGAAUCCAUAUAUGUGAUUAUUAGGUUAUGUUUGACGCUUAAUCAACGAACUCUAAUUCCAACGCUUUUACACCUUAUUAAUCUUCGUUUUUAUCUUCGUAUUUUAGUUAUCAUAGUUUUAAACAAACAACCAAAUUACUCUUGAACUUAAAAUGAUAAUCGAUGUUGAACGGUUUGCGAUAUCGCACUAAUCCCUGAAAAGACGAUACAUAAAUACUUACUUUUGAUUGGUAGAAAAAUACUACAUCAAAUAAAUCAUUCAGUUACAAAGCAUUCUUUUUAAUUAGAUGAUUUCAAUAAAAUAAAAUAAAAUAGAUCAUACAAUAUGUUCUAGUUGUGCAUAAACAAGUUCUCAUUUCAAUGAUGCUUUAUUCAAACAAAUAACUUUACCAAUAAAAAUUUCCGUUUACUAUCAUGAAAGGUUAAAAUAGUUGUGAAAAUUUAGUUAAAAAGAUUUGUUCUUAUGAGUAGCAAUUUUUUUAUGUUACCUCCUUGCUAUGUAUGUUAAUGGGAUAAACGUAGCACACGGUUAUACUUAAGAGAUAUUUUAUAACGAUUAUUAUUUUAUGAAAUGUUUUUACAGUUUUGUAAAAGUGCUAGAAACUAUUUAAUUAUUUAAAGGGGGUAAUGAACUUUAUACACUAUAAAAAGAUCAUAUAAUUAUACUUUUUACAUGCAAAAUGCAAAAAAUAUGACUGAAAUUCUUAAGUUUGUUUAUGUUAUGUUUCUAUUUAUUUCCAUGUUUAUUGUCACAACAGAAGUUGGUGGUAAGUCAUUUUUUCAUCCUUUUCAAUUUUCCUUCUUUAGUUUGUAUUUUGUACCCAACCUUUUUAUCAUGUUUUAGUAAUAUUGUUAUAUUAUCUUUUUCUUUACGACAGGUGAAUGUAUAAAUGAUAUUGAUUGUCCACAAACUGGGAACUUGUUUUAUGUUUUUAUUUGCAAAAAUCGCAUAUGUGAAUUGAUUAACAAAUACCCUCAAAAUCUAUGAGUACUAGUUCCAAGAGAGUAAAAAAACUUCUUACAAAGGAGAUAUGUAACCAUAUGAUAGAAUAUUCUAUGAGAUAUCAUUUGUUAUUGUACUAGCAUCUACUAAUUUUAUAUUUCUUAUCCUAUUAACAUGAACUUUGUAUUUUUGAUUUUGUACUCUAAGAUAAUGGUAAGACAAAAAGGAGAAUUAUAUAGAUUGUCUUCUCCUCUCUUAAUUUUGGAGGUAUUAUCAUGACAUCCGGUUCAAUCAUAUUACAUCUUAUUUUUUAGUCCACCACCUAUAAGAAUAAUUGUAAUAGUUAUAUUGAAAGAUAACUCUAUCUUACUUCAAAACCUAUACUUUUGUUUUAAUGUUAUAAUGUUAUUACACUUGUCACUUUCAAACACUUAUUUAUAUUUGUUUUACUUUUUUAUGAGAUCUAAUAGUCUUGGAUACCUUUUUUAUUUUAGAAGAUGUGGAAAACUAGAAUGUCACUGCAAAACAAUAAUUAGCUACUAAAAUAACAGUAAAGAAGUUAAUUAAUUGUAUAUUUUGUUGUGUCAACAACAGUUUUUUAAAUUGUUGUAUAACUAUAUGAACUAAGCUUAAUAGUGCAUGUGUUAUAUAUUGACGUAAAUUUAAAAUAUUUUUGUCAUAAUAUUGUUGUUGUUGAUUUUUAUAUUAAUGAAUACCUAUCAAUAAUUACCAAUAAACAUAUUUAAUGUGUGUUCUUUUUUUUACCAAAUUUAUGUGGGUUCUUGACAAGUUGAAAUCUAAGGAGGGUGUAUUGAAUUAGAAUUUAAAAGACAAUUUUUGUAUGAAAAAGUCUUGUGGAUUUUAAAAGACUAUACAUAAUUUUAGUGAUUUUUAAGACUUUAAAAGACUAUUAAAAUUUGUAAUUUGGAUUUCAAAGAAUUUAUACGAUAAGAUUUCAUGGGAUUUGAAAUGACUUUAUAGGUUUAUAAGAUUUCAAUGUGCUUUUAAAGAAUCAUUAAAGAAAAAUGAUAAUAACACUCUUUAUGAUGAUAAUUUCAAUACACACCUUUUCAUUUUUUUUUUUUUUUUAAGGAAACACUUUUUCAUUUGUUAAAAUUCAAAUUAUUCCAUUAAAAAAUAUAUUGUUUUUGGUGUAUUAUUUUGUGUAAAUUAUUGUUCUUGCAUAUCCAUGUUUGUCUUUUAGAAUUUUGAUUCACGUCUGUGAAGUGGGGUUCAAAUGAAGAAAUUAUUGAUACCCCAGAUUUAUGGAUUAAGAUUUAUAUAUAAAAAAAAAUAACAAUGUUUUAUAAAAAAUCUAAGGUCCGAACUCAGUUCUUGUUACUCCUCUCUUGGAUGGAUCCAACUAUCUCGCAUGGAGUCAUUCAAUGAUUCGUGCUUUUGGCGUGAAAAACAAAUUGAAAUUUAUUGAUGGUUCGAUGGAGAUUCCUGAUGAAAAUGAUCUGAAUCGUAGUGCGUGGGAACGAUACAAUCAUCUAAUUCAGUCCUGGAUCAUCAAUUCAGUUUCAUCUCAAAUUGCUCAAACACUGGUUUUUCAUGAAUCCGCCAUUGAUGCUUGGUUAGAUCUCAAAAAGUGUUUUUCUAAAGUUGAUAGAAUACGCAUUGCUACACUUCGAUCCACAAUCAACAACUUGAAACAAGGUUCAAAAUAUGUUUUAGAUUACUUUAUUGAGAUGCAUACUCUAUGGGAGGAGUUGAAUUCUCAUAGACCUAUGCCUCACUGCGCUUGUCCCCACCCUUGCCGUUGCGCCUCCGUGAGAGAAGCUCGCAAUUUUAGACUUGAGAAUCAGGUCAUUCAAUUUCUUACUAGAUUGAAUGAUCAAUUCACAGUUAUUAAAACUCAAGUUUUCAUGAUGGAUCCUCUUCCAUCAAUCAACAAAGUUUAUUCCUUAGUGAUUCAGGAAAAAAGCAAUAAUCACUAUGUAGAUUCUUCCGUUGAUGAUCAUGUUUCUUUGGUGAAUGCUUCUGAUUCACGCAAUAAGCCUCAAGAGAGAGGAACAAGAUAUUCUACUGGACCUAAACCUCCAAGACAUUGUAGUUUUUGUGGAAGAAAUAAUCACACAGUUGAUUAUUGUUAUGCUAAGCAUGGCCACCCUAAUUUUCAGAAGCAAGCUCCCUCUAUCAAUACUUCAAGCAGUAAUGAAACAUAUGAAGCUACACCAGGAAGUUGCAAUGAUGCAUCUUUACCUAGUUCUAGUAUUUCACAAGAGAAGUAUGACCAGCUUGUUAUCUUGCUUCAACAAGUGAAUCUGCUUCCUUCAUCAUCAACACCUCCUGCUAGUGCCAAUCACAUCAAUUCACCUUCUAUGUGAGGUAUAUCAUCCAUUUUCUCUUGUUCCAUUUCAUCUAAAUCUGAUAUUUGGAUUUUAGACUCAUGAGCUAAUGAGCACACUGUUUCCUCCACACAUUGGUUAACUUCUUAUCAUAAAUCAACCCUAAACCUGUGAAUUUACCUAAUGGUACUUCUGUUCUUGUUCAAUAUAUGUCGACACCAUUCAAUUUUCACCUUGGAAAUGUCCUAUAUUCUCCAUUAUUCAACUUGAACUUGAUUUCUAUUUCCAAGCUUUUUCAGUCUUUACAUUGUCAUGUCAUUUUUCAUGAUAAUAAAUAUUUCUUAAAGGAUCUUCACUCCUAGAAGAAGAUUGGUUUGGGUGAUCAGAUUGAAGGUCUUUAUAGAUUAGCUUUAGAUUCCUUUAAUCUUCCUCUAUGCAAUAAUUUUUCUGUCAAUCAUAUUUCCACCAAUACAAAUUUAACCAUCCCUUCUUCUACAUUAUUGCAUUUCAGGUUAGGACAUGUAUCUCAUAUGAGAUUAUCUCAUAUGUCUCAACUAUAUCCUAGUCUUACUUUUGAUCAUAAUACUACUUGUGACAUAUUAACAAAUAACUAAAUAUGGUCUUUCAAUAAAAUAAAAAAUAACCUAAUAGUCAAUAGAUCUCGCAUGGAAAAGAGACAGGGGCCUAUCUAACACCCAUCCCUUAGAAGUCAAAACUAGCAAUGUCCAUGAUAUGCUUUAAUGACGUGAACAAGUUAAACAUAGGAGUAAUUUUGUUGUUUUUCUUUACAUACCUUAAAACUUCUAAAAUGUUGAUAAAUAUAGUUAAACAAGAGUGCUAUUUGGUACGAUAGAUUCAACGACGAAACGCAGCAAAUGGAUACGUGCAAAGAUUGGAACAAGUAUUACUCCACAUUUGGGGCAAAACAUGUUGUUUAGUGCGGUGAUUAAGCUUGUUAACACCUUUCGUUAGUUCUCGUUGAUGCAUUGCUCGUAACAAUGAGCAUUACACAUAGUUAAAUUAUCUAUUAAUGAGAUCAUGUUCUUGAUAGAAAAAGUUAAAUUUUCGUUCUUACAAAAUAUGAACUAACUCGUGAAGACAACAUGUUAUUGAUUUUUGUUUUAAUCGAUUUUUUAUUUUUUAUUUUUAAAUAAAGGAGUCGAUUUUUAUAUUAAAAAUCAAAUUGAGUUGUGUUUUAGGUCAAAUCUUAUCCAACAAGAUUUUUUUUUUGGUAUAAUUAUUUCUUCAUAAAAUUAAAGUAGAUUAUUAUUAUAUUAAAAAAUGUGUAAAAUUAAUAAAUAAAAAAAAUUGUCUAUCCUUUUGUUUAUCUUUCUCCCCAUCACACACAUACAUAUCUUAAGAAACAAACAAAAAAAGUGAAAAUCUCAUACAAUGACACAUUAGUCGUUAAUCAACACUCUUCUCACACUUCUCAUUUUCUUCACAUUGCUUCUAGCGACGGUAACUAACCGUGGCUAAAACAAAAUGGCAACAAUUAGCGACGAAGAACGCGACGGUAACGGAAUUAAUCAAACACCGUUACGAAUCCCUGAAUUGCUCUAUGUUUCUGUGAAGAUGGAGAAUCCAAUCCGCGCUCUCGCUGGAAAUCUUUUUCCUCAUGUUUUUUGUUCUUCUGCAUUGCUUGGGGAUUGUUUGGAUUCUUCGAAAGCUGUAAUUUUGAUUCGUACCCUUUUUACUGUUUUAUUUGUAGUUUAAUGGGCGAUUCUGUUUUUUUUCUUAUUGUUGUUGUUUUUGGUUUAGAUUUUGAUGGAACGUGAAUCUGCGUCAAUGUGGGAGUUGAGCUUUGUUGUUCCACAAAAUCACGGUAAUAAUGUUUUUAAGUUAAUAUUUGGAUAAACAACUUAAUUAAUUGCUUAUAGCAUAAGUUGUUAUUAUAUGAGUAUCAAAGCCCGUUUGCAUUGACUUGAGCUUAUCCACCGGCAUUAGCACUUGUGAGACAAUUUAGGAGAACUUAUGACAUGUUCUUAAGCUGUUUUCAGCUUAUGAAAAAAAAUAUAGAUUAUACCAAAACAAUUUAACUUUAUUUUAUCUUUUGUUAUAAUUUAUUAAAGUAGCUUGUACAUGAUGAUAAACACUUAUACUAUAAUUUGCAAAUUAAGUUGUUUAUCCAAACAGGGACUUUAUGUAUUCUAUAACAAAAUAUAAAAUAAAUUCAAUCUGUUUUCAUAUAAGCUAUUCUAGAGAACUUGUGGAGAUAAGUUGAAGAGAGUUCACGGACAUGUCUUAACCGGUUUCCAUGAACUCUCCCAACGAGUCUGACAAGUGCUUAUGUUAGUAGAUAAGCACAAAUAACCAAAUCCAAUCAGGCCCUAUGAAACGAGAGAAACUCUUCUCAUAAAUUCUUUAAGUAAGCACUAAGUGGUCAUUUGGUUUUAAAUGUGUAAGGUCAUGUCACUAGUAUCCAUAUAGUCCCUGAAUGUGUUGAAAUUACGAAAAUAUCUCUGAAUGUGUCUUCUGUGAGUAAUUUCAUUGACCAAACUGACCAACGAAAGACAUGUUAGAGCCCCAAAUGACAAACAACAUCUACAUUUAUGGAUGUUUUUGCAAUAUUGAUAUAUUCAACGACUGUAGCGAUUGUGUCUAUCCUUCCGAGCAUGUGAAAAUAAGAUGACAUUAUUUUUGUACUCUUUCAACCUUUUUCUUAUGUUGUAAAAUAAAUUCAAAUAAGCUCUUCCAAGCAUUAUUUCGCCGGUGCAUAAACAGAAAAUAAUUGACUUUUCUAAUAACGCAGAUAAUAACUGUAUUGGCAUCAUCAUAAGAAGAAGCUUUAAUGUCAGGACUUCAUUUUGUAACCUGACGUGUUGACUUUGUUUGAGAAUUUCAGAAGCUUUGGAUUUCAAAUUCCUCCUAAAGCCAAAAGACGACAAUUCACCUUGUUUUCUUGAGGAGGGUCCGAAUCGUGUACUUGUAGCGGGAGCAUUGCAAGAUGGUGCUAGGCUUGCUUCAUUUAAGCUUGAUAAUGAUCAUGCUGUUGAGUAUAAAGUAUUUGUUCAAGCAAGCAAAGUUUCUUCCUUUGAUCUGGCAGCUAGUUGGAGGGCUUAUAAGGAGAAUUUUCAUCCUUCGGCUGUACGCGGGAUACCUGACGUCAGCAUAAAUUCAGAAGUUCAGACAGAAAGCGAGGUAAGACUCCAACUGCCAGUUUGCUUCAUCUUGUUUACUUUUUCCCCUUGGUUCAAGGUUCACCACAUUGUUUUUCUUCUGGUAGCUGUAGAACAAAGACUUACUCUGGCUGCAAGUCUUUAGAUGAUUGUGCUAAAAAGCCUCAUGUGAAUGUGCAGGAUGUCUUAUACUUUGUUUUUGCUGUAAAAUAAGUGUACUGUUAAACGUGGUUUAGUUAAGUAUUAGAUAUGCUAAUUUGUCUCAUACUAUGUUAUUUUGUGGUUAUAAUGGUAAAUAGUUGCAUUAUAUAGUUAGUAGACAGCUGCAUCGAAUUGAAAGAUGUUUCGUUUUCAUUCUUUAAAAUAAAAUAACAUGAAUCAGCCUAACAGGUGACUUGCAUUUCAUAUCCUGUUUUUUUUUUUCCUUUACUUUUUCAUGUUUUCUACAGUUUUAAUUAUGUGUUGUAAUCAAUAUUCUUAUAUUAGUGCAGUCAUCACUGUGAUAGUCCAAUUACUUUUUUGUUGAUGCGCAACUCUAAUUAUUUUCCCAUGAAAUUGUAUCGGCGCACUAGUCAUGCCUCAGGACUCUUCUUUAUUAACCGCCAAUUUUAAUUUUAAUCUCUUCGUGGAACUGUAGUUUGUCAUUAAAUGUUUUUCUAAUCUGAUAGUGCAAAAUGGUUAUUAUUAAGGUUCAAGUGAUUAAUCUAGCACAUAAAAAGUUUAUAGUUGAAUUACAUGUCUUUCUCAUACAUUGCCAUUUCAUCCACCACAACUUGUAGUCCAAUCAUGCAUCUUAACUGGUGGCCUUGAUAUGUUCUACUUUUCUUUUUCUUUCUAAUUCCAACUUAUGAAGUUAUGAUAAAUAUGUUUUUUUGUGAACCAUUUCUAUGGACCUCAUGGCUCACACUUUAUUUUUCUAUUUUUUUUUUUAGAAUGUCUCUUCUGCGAGUUUGGAACUUGAUCUUGAGCAUUAUGUUGUCCCAGCUCCCUCAAGUUCUCCAAAUUCAUCUGCUGUAUAUGCAGCUGACAUGACAGAGAAUCCCAGAUCACGGAAUAGUGGGUAUGGCAGCAAUUCAUAUUCCGCCGGAGAUGACAGUGGUUAUGUUGAUCAACCUGAAACUGUAAAUAUUUAACUUUCAAAUUCAUAUUUAAAAUUUAUGAUUGACUUUUAGAUUUUAUAUUGGGCCUAACAGACUCAUCCUUACAUGACCAGUUUGUAUAAUGCGGGUCACCCAUGCUUUAUACACACUACACAUGCCAUAUCUCUGAGCAAUGUGGGACUAAAUCCACCCUUUUAAGCCCAACACAUUGAAGGUGUUGAAGGUUGCAAUUGCAACUAAGGCAACUCAAAUGCCGCAUGUUGGAAAUUCUGCCUUUAUUGCGAUCCACCCCUAGUCGCCCAAUUGCGACAUUUGAGUUUCCUCAUGUUGCCUUGCCUUGUAUUGGCUUUGAGGGGGUGGAUUUAGUCCCACAUCGGUUAGAUAGAACUCUUGAUAAGAGUUUAUAAAGAGGAGGCACUCCCUUACAAGCCUGUUUUGUAAGGAUGAGUUAGGCCCCAAAUUUCUACAUGGUAUUUGUAAGGAUGAGUUAGGCCCCAAAUUUCUACACCGCAAUUAGCCGGCAAGGGGCGGACCGCAAUUAAGGCGGAAUUUCCAACAUUGACGUUAAAUUUUAAAAGAGAAUAUUUUGUCAAACAACUGUAAGAUCGACGAUGUUGUACGGAACAGGGUGUUGGGUGGUAAAACACCAACACGAGAAUAAAAUAAGCAUAGUGGAGACAAGGAUGUUGCGUGGGAUGUGUGGUAAGAUCAAAUGAGAUAUGAUUAGAAAUGACAAUAUUAGAGAGUUAGAGUAACAUGUAUAAUAGAAAAGAUGGUGGAAAAUAGGUUUAAGUGGUUUGGGCAUAUUCGGAGAAGACUUGUAGAUUCUGUAGUAAGGAGAGUAGAUAAUGGAGGAUAGUCAGGUCACGAGAGACAUAGGAAGACCUAGAAAAACUAUAAGAGAAAUUGUUAAGAAAGAUCUAGAGAUGAAUGAGUUGGAUCGAAAUAUGGUUUAUAAUAGAACAUUAUGACGUGAUAUGAUCCAUGUAGCCGACUCCACUUAGUGGGAUAACGUCUGGUUGUUUAACUUUCUCAGAGAUUUUUAAUAAAUACUCAUGCACAGUCAUGUAAACCGUAAAGUACUGACCCUUAUUUUAAUAUUAAAACUAAUCUCCGAAUUCUAAUUAAAAAGGAAAGUAAAUGAUGAAUAUCUAUCUUAGAAUUUGUGGUUGGGCCUUACACAACCCAACAAAACCGGCUUAUAAACACUUGCUCAGGCAAUAUCACUUCCAAUGUGGGACUCUUAACACACACCCCUCACGCCUAGAACUAGACAUCUGGAGCGUGACCCGAGUGGUCCGAUAGCGGAAACUUGAUAGCGGUGGUCCAACAGAUCUUGGAUAGGCUAUGAUACCAACUUAAAUGUUUUUAAAAUGAAUGGCUUGUACAUAUCUUGCAAUGAGAUAUUCAAAUUCUAACUUAUAUACAAGAAAGAAUCUCUCAAGAAAAAGAAAACAAUGAAAUUAAAUCAAUCAUAGUAAAUAGAGAAUAAUCAACAUUCUAAAAUACUGUAAAGUGGAAUAAUGAUAUAGUGAAAUAUUUUUUAGAUUUUUCAACACUCACUGUCAAGCUAAAACUUACCAAGAUUUUAGUUAGUUACAACUUUACAAGUAUGUGUAGCAAAUAGUUGUGUAUUUGAUGUUUUUAAAAUGCAAAAUACCAGUACUUGAGGUUAAGAGGAAAAAAAGAAAGUAAGCUAGUAGGUUAUAUUAAUUAUUGAUUGUGCAAUGUAUCAUAUCUAAUUGGCUAUGUUGAUGUUCCAACUAGGAGAUGGAGGUCAAUACCCUGGUCCCAUCUAGGGUGUAUGAAUGUCGCAAACUUGUUAAAUCUCUGUCAGUGGGAACAAUGUCAACACUGCGAAAGGAAGAUGGUCAGAGGGGACCUUUUGUUGAUAGGGGUGUUGGAUUUCCAAGAAUUGUAAAAUCUUCUAGUUUAAAGUCAUUUACUGUUGAUCUUAGUUUGGACACUGAUACCGAGGUUUGUAUAAUUGAUUUUCACUUUUGUUUUAUUAUUCAACUUUAAUUUUUGGUGGACUGAUUUAUAUUGCUUUUAACCGUUAAUUGUGGUUGUUUACAACAUUUGCUUCUGCCCCUCCUUUUUUCGGAUAGAAUUCAUUUCCAGCAGCAGCUGGAGCUGUUGCAGCUGGUGCCGUUGCUGAUCAGAUGCUGGGUCCCAAGGAGGAUAAACAUUUGGCGAUUGUCAUGGUAUUAUUCUUGCUUGUGAAAUAACUAGUUAUGAAGUUGUUUUAGCAACUUUUCUGAUAAUAUUUAUUUUUGGCUGUAAAUUGAGACUCAAAAAUAAAGGAACAUACCGUGAAAUGUUUGAAUUUGGAAGUACAUGGUGAAAAUGUCACAUUCCCUUUUGUAUUUAAUCUAAUUUAGUGAAUUAAAGUAUUUCGAAUUGAAUAAUUCAAACUACUUUUACUUAGGUGAGUCUGCCAGCUCGAGGUAAAACUUUCACUGCAGCUAAACUUACAAGAUAUCUUCGCUGGUUGGGUCAUAAUACAAAACACUUCAACGUUGGUAAGGUUGUUCACAUUCUUGACUUGAUUCUUCUUUGUAAUGAAGGUUAUGUCUGGAUAUCUAAUGGAGCGUAGUGGAAUGAAAUGAGAUUAAAUGAAGAGUGGAAUAGAACAUAAUGAAAUAGACUUACCAUUCCUUUCUUUGCAUAUUUUAAUCAUGCAAUGGAGAAACGGGCUUGUUUCAUUCUAUUCCACCCAAAAUGGAGGGGAAAAGUGGGAUAUUGGAUGGAAUGGAACCCAUUUCAUUCCAUCUUAUUUUAAAUAAUUCCAAACAACGGAACCUUCAAUGAUUUCAUUCCAUUUACUUCCAUUAAUCCCAAUCUAGCCCAAUAGUCUUGCACCUAGUGGAAGAUUGGAAAUAUAUCAAGUAUGAAGUUAACAUUCUCACAUUUUGAUGUCACAGUAUCGUCGCCUUAAGCACGGAGCUAGUCAGGUAAACUUAAUGGAAAUGAAUCAAUAGGAUAGUUUAUUUCUUAUUUAUUUAUUUAUUUAUUUAUUUAUUAUGUGCUUCUAUAUAUAGAUUCCAUUCCUAUCCGUCAGAUUUGCACCAUUUAUAAAUAUGUGACAUGGGGCUUUGAUUUGUUAACAUGUUUCAUCACCCAACACAAGAGUACUAACCUUCUGCAGCACCUAGAUUUGACAUAUUUUACAACCAAAUGGAAUAUGGUGUAGUUCUGUGACUAAAAUGGGUUCGUAGCACACACUCUUUUAACAAAAUUAAGCUGAAGGUUGGUAGAUUAAAAUUACGGAUUAAAGGAGAAUGAUAAGAAGAAAUAUGACGUUAGUGAAGUAUGAUUUGAUACAAAUUUGACGAUACUAGUUUGAUAGUGACUUGAUACCAAGGACUUAAAACUAAUCCUUAUUUGUAGUAUACGAGACUCCUAAUCCUAAAUAAAUAGGAAACUCAGAAAACAAUCAUGGUAAUAGUGAUAUAACAUGGAAUCUAAUUCUAGGAGAUAAUUUAAGACACUCUAAGAUUAUAAAUGGAACCAAGAAGAUAAAUAUAAUAUCAAAAACAUUAUGAGAUGUUUCAUGUAUGUUCUAAUAAUCUAUUAUACAACGAGUUUUUACAACAAUCAUGAUUCAUAGAAUCAUGGAUGAGCUGCUUGACCUACAAAUUUAAGCAAUCAAGUGUUGCGACCACAAGUUUUAACCUGAAAAAUUUAGAAUGAAUGAUUUGCAUUACACAACGGUGCAGAACAAAAUAUAUAUACUAGAGUAGAGAGUAUCACUUUAAAUAAGGAAAAGUAGAGUUGAGAACAAGGUUUUCUGGUGCUGAAUAACUUAAGAGAUUAGCUCUCAACCUUUUGUAUUUAUAAUAAGAAUAUAUACAAAGUAAAUCCCAUGAUCAUAGGGAGUAAAUCUGUCCUAAUUAUAUAAGAGAUAUUUACAAGGAAAUAAAGAUAAUAUAAAUAAGGAGAUAAUAUAUCAGUCAAUGAUACUAUUAUUACGCAUAUCUCAACACUCCCCUUCAAGCUGGAGCAUACAAAUCAUAUGCAUCAAGCUUGUCACAUAUGCAAGUGAUCCUUGGUCCUCGAAGAGACUUUGUGAAGAUAUCGGCUAGUUGAUCAUUACUAUUAGAACCAACAAAAGAAGUAGCAAUUUCACCAGACAUAAUUUUCUCACGAAUAAAAUGACAAUCGAUCUCAAUAUGCUUAGUUCGCUCAUGAAAGACUGGAUUAGAGGCAAUGUGUAGGGCUGCUUGAUUGUCACAAAUGAUACUCAUAGUGCCUAUUUUACUGAAGUGAAGCUCUUGGAGAAGAUGCUUGAGCCAUAUGAGCUCACAUGUAGUAAGUGCCAUAGCUCUAUAUUCUGCCUCUGCACUUGAUCUAGCAACGACAUUUUGCUUCUUACUUUUCCAUGAAAUCAAAUUGCCUCCAAUGAGAACAUAAUAUCCAGAUGUGGACCUUCUGUCAGACGGACUUCCAGCCCAAUCUGCUUCUGUAUACGCAACAAUAUCUGAAUGACCUCUGUCUGCAUAAACAAGAUCUUUUCCAGGGGCUCUCUUGAUAUAUCUUAGAAUUCUAACCACAACAAUCCAAUGAAUAUCACAAGGGGAAUUCAAGAAUUGACUAACAACACUGACUGCAUAUGAAAUAUCAGGUCUUGUCAUGGUCAAAUAAUUCAGCUUCCCAACUAACCUCCGGUACCUUCCUGGAUCUGAAAAGGUCUCCCCUUGUCAUGGGCGUGAGAGAGGUGUAUUGGGAAAAUCCAAGUCUCACAUCGGAUAGAUAAGACUCUUGAGAAAAGUAUAUAAAGAGGAGCAAUCCUCACCUUACAAGCCGGUUUUUUGAGGAUGAGUUAGGCCCUAAAAUUUUAACAAGUAGUAAAUUAAGGAUUACCACUCAAGAGAGUAUCACACUACAUCAAUUGAUCACUAUGGGGACUCACUGUAUUAAAUAUUUGUUUUAUUCUUGGAAUCAUGAUUUUAAAGUUGGCUGUCGUGCUUUGUUGGAAAGUUUUUAAUUUAUGUCAUUCUUUUAUGUAGUCUGCUGAUUUCUUUCGAGCUGACAAUCCUGAAGGCAUAGAGGCACGUAAUGAGGUAACUUCUGGCCAGUAAAUUAAUUCAAACAAGUAAUAUAUGAGAGUAAAGUUUAUUGAUUUCUGACAUAACUUGGUUAUAACUAAAAUUAUCAAGAUGUUGCUUCUAAAUUUUUUUCAAUUUUAUUAAAAGAAAUAAACUACUUAUCUUUAAAGGCCUUUAACAAAAUUCCUUUUUUUUUUGGUUUGCUUUAGUUGUCAAUUGUUCACUUGCGUUUAAAUCAAUUAAUGACUAAAGAUCUGAAUAUAUUGAAAACAAAUCAUUUCGGGAGCUGAUUCUAAAGUGUUGCAUUAAAGAAAAUCAACACCAAUUGAUGUUAUAAUACAAAAUGAGUUUACUUAUAUCAUUUAUUGAAUGGCAACACCAUUUACGACCCAUUUUUGUAGAAUAAAAAUCAGAAAAUAAACGCAUAUUGACAAAUACCAGAAUUUACGACUACUUGCUCUUAUUCAAAUGCUCUAUUUCUAACAUUGGUUUAUCUUGAAUGAUCUUGUUGGUGUUGACAUCCAGCAAUUGUAGAAGACCCAAUCAAAAUAUUCAUUUUGAUUACCUUUUUAAGACUGAUAUAAUGUUACUUUUAGUUUUUGGUAUUCAUUUUGUUAUGAAUGAUUCUGAUAACGUUAACACCAUGUUGACCUUUCUCUGUGUACAUGAUUUUAAUAUCAUCCAAAUCCUGUACACCCAGGUAGCAAAAUUGGCAUUUGAAGAUAUGAUAACUUGGAUGCAAGAAGGUGGUCAGGUAAAUUCAUUCUUGCUGGGAACCUUUUUUCUUUUUUGUUUUCCUUUAAGUUCUCUGCAUAAAUUUUUAAGUUCAAUUUAGGUUGGGAUAUUUGAUGCCACAAACAGUAGCAAGCAGCGAAGAAACAUGCUGAUGAAAUUGGCUGAAGGAAGAUGCAAGGUAUUUUAAUCACAGAUAGCUACUGUUAUUUAGGUAAUAUAAAAAUGGCGUAUGUAGUUUUAAGGUAUUUUUACACUCUUCUGAUGCACCUUUGUAUUUUUAUUGCAGAUUAUCUUUCUGGAGACAAUAUGCAAUGAUGUAGACAUGAUUGAAAGGAAUAUUCGUUUUAAAAUUCAGCAAAGUCCUGACUAUGCAGAAGUGUAUGUUUGCUUUAAAACCUGUGACAUCUUGUCUCAAUCACUUUGUAGAAACGUGCACAAUUAGCUUUUCUUUUGCAGGCCAGAUUUUGAGGCUGGGCUACGAGACUUCAAAACUCGUGUAGCCAAUUAUGAGAAGGCAAUUCUUUCAUAUAUACUUUUAAUAACUUUUCUCGGUGAGCUUUUGCUUUAAAUAAUGCUGAUUUCAUCAUAUUACUAGGUUUAUGAGACGGUAGAAGAGGGAUCUUACAUAAAAAUGAUUGACAUGGCCAGUGGACGUGGUGGGCAAAUACAAGUAAGUUUUACCUGCAAUUAUGUGAUUUGUGUGUGUUGUAAAUUGCCGUCUACUUGGCUCAUUGUUUUGUUAGCCAGUAACAAUAUCACAAGUUAUAUAUGCAUGUCUGUUGACCAUACUCUAGUUGUUUUUUAGAUGAGUAAAAGUUUAUUUUUGUAGAUACACUUGAAAGUUUGAUUAAUAUGAAUAUUAUUGAUUGAUUGGUAAGUUACAAAUUACAGGCUCUAAUAAUAUUAUAUAGACAAUUAAACAUGAGUCUUAAUAAAUGAUAGCCAAGAAAAAGGAAAUAAAGUUUAUCUUGAUAAUUAUACAUUGUUAUGGACCUUAUGGUGAUAUGUACAACACAAAAGGUUGCCUCCAAAAAUUAUACAAUGACCAAAAGUGGAUCUUCUACCAAUAGGAGAGCCUGCCUUAUCUGCAUUUGAAUAUCAUACAACUUAAGUUGGGCCCUUGUUUUCAUAGAUCAGACCUUUUCAUCGGGCUUCUUUAAUACACUUCAAGAUGUGAGUUACGCCGAGAUGUGAAUUAUAGCAUCCCAAUGUCCUUUACAAGGUAAGUUAAGAAAUCAACUUUCCAUAUUAACAACAAAGGAGAUCUUUGGAAGAGCAAAUUGGGAUAAUUUUGCUUGGUCACUAGUCUUCUGUAUCUCUUUGGGUUUGAUAGUCUUCACCAUGGAGGAAUACAUUCUUCAUAUCAACUUGGAGAGACUUGACACCAUUCUUUUGUAACAUUUCAAGACUUGGAUGACCUAGUUGAGCAUGUACUAGAUGAGGGUAAUCUUUGGUGGUGCAUAUUCGGGAGUGGUUAGGGAGAUGAUAGAGGCCAAGUAUUAGGGUGGUGGACAUCCGGGAAUGGUCAUUGGUUAAAAUAGGUGACAGCUGACAACGGAAAAUUGGCAAUAGCAGUCGCUAUGGGUGAUUCUAAGUGGCAGCGCUAAAAAAUAUGCAUUGUAGGUGUUGGCAGUUGCUAGGUAGGCAGCACAGGGUGGCUACGAUUUUGACGUAGAAGUAAAGUCUCCUAAAUCGAGACUGUUGAUAUCAACUUGAAAGGGUCUCUUAGUAAUCUGAAUAUUAUUGAUUAAUAAAUUACAAAUGACAUGCUCUAAAAUAUAUACUAUUGAACAUAUUUCCUAAUGAUAGUCGGAAAAUCUAUCUUAAUAAUUAAAGAACAUUAUAGUCAUGUAUGUUCAGAAGAAUAAAAGGAAAUAAUUAUUUAUUUUAUCCUAAAAUAGCCCCGCUUAUAACUAUUCUAAUAAUUAGUUUAGAUGUAAAACCCUGGUUUAGCCGUUUAGGUGGAAAUUCAAAUGACAUAGUUUCACUUGCUCUUCUAAUUUUAAAUAACUUAUGACAGCAUAAAUUUGAGUUUGCUUUGUGCCUACCUUAAUAAUUAUUUCAUUUUCAUGGUUCACUGGAAGCAUAGAAUUGAAAGCGUGUUUUAUAAUUUUGUUCUGCACACGCAAAAUUUAUGAUGAAACUUGUACAAAUAUUCUGAAAUUUUUGUGUCUCCAUGAUUUUCUCUAGCCAUAAGAAAUAAGGUCUAUAGUAUGACAUUGAUUUAUUAAUUAUUCACGAUUUAUCUCUUUUGGUUUAGGUGAACAAUAUCAGUGGCUACCUACCUGGCAGAAUUGUCUUUUUCUUGGUAAGCUUCUUCAAAGAUUGUAGUUAAUUACAUUCAAAGUCUUGCAUUAUUAAAACUCAGGCAGGAAAAUAAUUGAUUUAACAUUAUUAAAACUCAAGAAGUGAAAGGGAAAAUUAGAGAGAAUCACUGAUUCUAUUUCAGCUAAAUGAUUUCAUUCAUCUGAUUUUGAUUGAGAUACGUCACUGGUAUGUAUAGAGGUUAGAGUGGGCUUACUGACCCAGAUACAACUAUGAAAACCAAACUGUGAUUGAUUCAACCCACAGCUAUGAACGAAGCUGUCAAAUGACUAACCAAAGCCACCUGCUACCGACACUAGUCAUAAUCGAAUGUUAAUUACAAUAUAACAACAUAGUGGGCUACUAUUGAGAAAUUUCAUGAACCAACCUUAACCUUAAUCAAGAGUCCUUUGGGCUUAAAAUGUUAUAGGUUCAUCUUCCUUAUGCUAAAAUCAAACUAUUAGGUAAUGGUACAUGAAUCAAAGUCUUUACCAUUUGUGUUAGAGGCAUUGAAACCAUUUCAUAAACCAACUACCCAAAAUUUUUGAAACUAUUAGGUAAUGGCACAUGAAUCAUUUUAUAUCACUAAUUAGAAAAUUAGUGAAACUUUUCUGUCACUAUAACCUUUUCAAAUUGAGAUAUUCGCUAAUUUGGAAUAGGUUUUAGCUUAUUGCAGUUUCUCAAAUGAGAUGAAUAUCUAGCUCCUAACUUACCAAAAGGCCCUUAUAAGUUUAUAAGUUCUUAUGGACAAGCAAGAUGGGAAAGCUUCUUAAAAAGUUGAGGGUAGUUUCUUUCGUAACAAAUAGCAAUCCUCUUUUGCCUAACUUCCCAAGAUAGUGUUUUUUAGAAGUCUAUUAUACACACUCUCCAAAUGCUACUCCAUGUUAUUUGAAGUUUCUCAAGAGUAUCUGGUUAUUUUCUUCAUGUCUUGCAGAUGAAUACGCAUCUUACACCACGCCCAAUAUUACUCACUCGGCAUGGAGAAAGUCAGGAUAAUGUGAGAGGCAGAAUUGGAGGAGAUCCUGCAUUAAGGUAUAUUCUCAUAUUUUCUUGGUGUAUAAUUGCCGAGGACACAUGCCGACAAAGGUACUUGUAUGAAUGAAAACGAAAUUCCUGUUUUUUGCCUUAAAGAACUGGUAUCAAAAUAAAUUGUGGUACGGGUAUCGUAAGACUUCAUAUGUUACUGGCUUCUGAUUGUACUAGUUGUAUUUCAUUCGUACUUGACCUAGAAUAAUGGUUUAAGUAGGAGUUUUAGGUCCUUUUUUUAUAACAUUUAAUUAUUUGAAGCAUAUUAAUGGUGAUGAAAAACUGAACGAUAGUAUCACUGGUUGAUUAGGAACAAUAACGGAUACUAAAGGUAGUUGUGAUAAGUCACGAAUGAGAUGAUUAAAAAGAAGUGCUAUGAAGGCACUGUGACUAUAUGAAGUGGAAAAUCUGAAUCGUAUUUCUCUUAUUGUUAGAUAUUACUUUCUUUUCUUCCACCUUGCUCGUGAUUUCUCUUUUUACUACUUUACUUGGGUGUACCCUCGUAGCUGAGAAGCAAAAUAAGGCUAGCAGCUCAUUGUUGUAGCCUUAUUGGUUUAAAGGGCCGUGUUUUGUAAAGAGAAGUGGCAAAGUAGAAGUAGGGCUUAAUUGGUUUGAAGGGAUGUGUUUUUUAAAGUGAAGUGGCAAAGUAGUUAUGGUUUCUCUAUCUUUGACUUAUUUUUUAAUGUGAUACCUGAUUUCUUUAACAGUUGCUGUAAAUUUUAAGCUGACUAACUUAACCAAAUUGUUUCAACAGUGAGGCUGGAGAACUUUAUAAACAGAAGCUUGCCAAAUUUGUUGGAAAACGUCUCAAAUCAGAACGAGCUGCUUCUGUAAGCUUUUCCAAUAGUAUGGAUUAAAUUCUGGCAUUCAUUUUUUCUUCAAAUAAAUCAUAUGAUUACAAGAAAUUAAUGCUAGUAUGCCAUGUGCCUUCUAGCAAUACUCCUUUGUUUGCUAUAGCAACAUAUAUCAUUUAUCUUGAGUUGUAUUCUAGUAUCAAUGACAAUGAUGAAGAUUAUUUUUCACUUAAUCAUGCAGCAAACGGUUAUAGUGUUAGUGAUUGGCAAUGUAUUGUCAGUAACUUAUUCCUUAAUCGGAUUAAGUAUAGGGAAAGGAGGCGCAGACCUUCAAAGAUCUACAGCACUAGUUAGAAAAGAUUCCUUGGACAAGAAAUGAUACAUGAACUAGAAUUACAAAUUUUCAUUAUAAUAUUGCCUUUUCAUCAUUUUGCACAUCUGACACUACCAAAUACAAAGCAUUCUUUUCACAUAUAGGAUUUUGUAGAAGUUAUAUAAAACAAUGAUGAAUGGGUUAUUUCCAUGUCAGUUAAGCGCAUGCAUGAACGUACUGAAAUGAUGAAUAGUUUGUGAUAUUUGUCACCUCUGUCUAGAUAUGGACCAGUACACUACAGCGAACAAUUCUGACAGCAGGCCCCAUUGUUGGAUUUCCUAAGGUUAGUGUCAUCCUUAAGUCAGAAAAUAUGGAUUGACAUAAUUGCACAUUGAUUGUGUUCCUGCAUCGACUUUCUAUACAUUUUAGAUACAAUGGCGUGCACUUGAUGAGAUAGAUGCCGGGGUGUGUGAUGGAAUGACAUACCAAGAAAUCAAGAAGAACAUGCCAGAGGAGUAUGAGUAUGUCUCAAACUUGUAAUCUCACUUAUUUGAAAGCUGAAUGAACUAGUAUUAUUAGAUAAAAAAUCAAGUGUUUAAAAGUAGCAUAAUGCCAAUUAAAAUGUUUAAGUGUAUUUAGUUAUUUUAUUUAUAUUUUGGUUAUUUCCAUUGCAGAUCCCGCAAAAAGGACAAACUUAGGUAUCGUUAUCCUCGUGGGGAGUCUUAUUUGGACGUUAUUCAAAGGUUGAUACAUUGCAUCUUUAACACUAUUUAGAUCCUAGCUACUACUUGUUUGACAUAAAUAACUUAAGUUUUCAUGAUAUUUCAGGUUAGAGCCUGUAAUUAUUGAGCUUGAGCGGCAACGAGCACCUGUUGUUGUGGUAUCUCACCAGGUAUUGCAUAUAUGAUGUUAAAAAGUAAACUUGCAUUUAUGUAUCUUUCACUGGUUUUAAUUCUUGACAUUUUUGCCAAUACUUCUUCAUUGCAGGCAGUUUUGAGGGCAUUGUAUGCUUAUUUUACGGACAGGCCUUUGAAAGAAAUUCCACAUAUGGAGGUAAUAUAUGAGUUAAUAUUUAUCUGAAUGCAAUGUUCUUACUGUCAUAUAUGGAGUUGAUGCAAAAACCUGAUUGUGUUUUUGGCAAAUAUUUUAACUUUGAUAUGAAAAUGUUAGUAUAUUGGUUGUUAUGUUCGUAUUUUCUCCUUCACUGAGAGUUGAACCCUGAUUCUUUUACGCUUUCAACUCAUUUAACCUUUGGCAAUUAUUUAAGCACAUCUUUUGGUUAUUUUCAUUAAAAAAUAUUUAUGUGGUUCACCCACCAAAAUUUCAGAAACAUUUUAAUGGAUCAAGAAUUUGAACAAGAUAUCUAAUGUGAGGUUUGCUCAUUUGCAGGUGCCACUUCAUACUAUAAUAGAGAUAGAGUUGGGAGUUACAGGUGUCCAAGAGAAAAGAUACAAACUAAUGGACUGAUGUGAGUAUAGAAGAAGAGAAGAAAAGGGAUGUUAACAAAAGAUUUGAAGUAAACUUUUUUUUUUUUUUUUGUAAUGAGGAAAAAAUGAUGAAUUAUCAUGUAAAUUGUGAUCCUCUUAAAAGUUAUUUAUUCAUAUUGAUGAGCAUAUCUUAGUUCCUUAUUUGAAGAAUUUUAAAGUUCAAAACAAAAGUAGCACAAGUUUUUACUCAGCAAACUCAAAGUUCCCAUCCUUUUCAGUUCACUCCCUUUUUUGCAAAUCCAUUAAAUGCUGAUAGAAUUAGUUAAAAACAACUUAAAGAAGUAGGUAUGGACCAACAUGAACAAUUUUUGGUCCUCUCCUGAGAGACUACGAGUAGCAGGUUUGCAGGUCUCAGCAUUUGUAGGCCAACUCAGACCAAUGAAAAACAACCACAAAUAAUUUUCCAAUUUUUAUGUCUAUAUUACCAACAUUUCUCAUAGAAAACUUUCAAAUGGCGUUAAUUUAUAGAGGUCAUUAAUGAAUUUUAUGAAAAUUCACCUUAAUGAAUUAUAUAAACACCUAUUGGAAGGGACCAAGACAUUCUGCAUUUUGCCGCAUUCAUGUAGUCACGAUAUCCAUGAUUUGAUAUCGGACGUUUUUUAAGAUCAGUAUAUUUUCUCAAAAGAAUCUGACGAUCUCGAUUUAACGAUCACACAUAUUGUGGCCGCAUGAAGAUGGCCACUGCCAACAGCAUGCAAUCCAAUUUUCUAUUGGAUGAUGUUUUCCAAGAAGCUUUGAAGAAGUAGAUACCAUCAGCAUGCUGCAUGCCUACUCUAUAAAAAGUAAAAACUAGAAAAAGGAAAGAAAGAAAUAAAAAGUAGUGAUAGAUGCAUCACCGGAAACAUGUAUGAAAAUAUGGCAUUGGCAUGGAAUCUAUGCAAAGAUCUCUUACUGCAGUCAGCCGUGGACUGAGGGUGACUAUAGUACUACUACUACUAGGGUGGUCAAAAUAAAUGGAAAGACGAAAAAGUCCUUCAUUUAUAGUAUAGGUUUCCAUUCACAUGGGACCCCUGAAUUCUCACAUUCAUCCAUCUUGAUAUCUUUAAAACAUGAAUUAGGAGGGUCCCAUUUUCUGCCUCACUAGCUAAACAAAUACAACAGCCACUCUAACAUUGACAACUGAAAUAUUGUUGGCGUAGAACUGAAAUAUUGUUGGUAUAUGCAUAAGUUUGUUUAUUGAUCAACCAAUAGAAAUAAAUUUGUUCAUAAUAUAAUAGCUAUUUCAUUUAUGCACCAUAAAAAUAACUAUACAAGACUUAAUUAUAGAACCCUUCUUUACCAUCAUUCAAUCUUUAUACGCAGACGAUUUGUUAAUGAUUAUAUGAAAUUCACACACACAACUAUGAAAUCUCAUAUUCGUAUUUAAGUGAAAAUUUCAGUUUAGUAAUAUGAUAUGCAUAUGUAUUGCAAAUUUUUAAUUGUUUUUCUAAAUAUAUUCAACAAACUAAUGUUAGGAGUGGAGAAACUAGUAUUUGACUUACUCACUCUAACACUCUCUUAAACCUUCUCAAAAUUGUACAAUAUCUCAUUUAUUAGUCAUAAGUCAUAAGACCUUUUGCUACACCAAAAUAAACUAAUUAAAACUAAAUAUAAAUAAAUUCACACUCAAACCCUCCACAUGAAUCUAAUAAAACUCACCUACCUACCACCUUCCACUGCCAUUGCCUUCACGGGUGUUCAUUUCUCCCCCCUCCUUUUUCUCUUCAACCUCCCCUCAUCCCAUCCUCACAUUCAUCACUCCCUUGGAUACAAGGACUCUUCUCCUUUCACAAAACCAUACUACACUUCAUAAUUUCUCAAUUCCCUUCAAACAUAUCCACAUACACAACAACAAACCAUAACAAAACAAGAAUCUUCUACAUUGUACACACAAAUAUGGUAUUAUUAAGGUUCUCUUUGAACAUAUAAAAAAAUCUUCUUCACAAACCACUUCAAGUUCAAUCUUUUCCUAAAAAACCAUUCCAAAUCUAUUUCACCUAUUAGACCAAAUUUCACUUCUCAACUCACGCUGAAAGUACCGAGUGUAACUUAAGUCAGAGAUGCUAAACCAACCCAACUCAGAAAACUCAUCCACCAAUCCAUUGAAUCAACUAGCACAAAACAUGUCCUCCGACAACUACAUCAUGCUUGCAGCAAUCAUUUCUCUCCUCCUAGUAAUCAUCUUUGUCCUCCUUCUUCACCUCUACGCCAAAUGGUUCCUAGCUCAAUCCAAUCCUCGCAGUCCGGUGAACCUCUCCGACAUUCCAAUAUCUCCCAACUUCCACCACCAUUUCAACAUCCAAUCCCCACCAUUUAAAGGACUCAACUCAACAACACUUUCAACCAUUCCCACGUUUGUGUCUGAAGAAAAAACACAAGAACUAGAAUGUGUGAUUUGUUUGAGUUACAUUGAAGAAGGAGAGAUUGGAAGAAAGUUACCAAAAUGUGGACAUGCUUUUCAUGUUGAAUGUAUUGAUAUGUGGCUGAAUUCACAUUGUAACUGUCCCAUUUGUAGAGGUUUGAUUGUUGAGGAAGAUUCUCAUGGUGGUAAUGUUGUUGAGAUUGUGAUUGAUACUCCAAGUUAUAGUGAGAGUGGUUCUGUUUCUGUUUCAGAAACUAGUUCUUUAUCUUUGUUUGGAUUUUCUUUCAAGAGAAUUCUUAGCAAAGUUUUUCUUUCUUCACAUGUAAAUGAAUUAGAUAAUGGUUCACAAUGAUAUUAUUUAUUUUUUGUUCUAUUGUUUAUAACUAUAUAUUAUAUAUACAACCAUGAGAAGUUAAUCGCUAUGAUUAGACAAUUUUUGUUUGUUUCAGCUUGUUUAUGUAUAUCCUAUUAUUGUUAAAUUGUUUGGUUUCUUUUGGAUAUGUAAUUUUCAUUUUUAAUUUCUUAAUUGGUUUAAGACUUGAGAGAAUUAAAUUAAAUCAUACACACUCAAGAACUAAUAUAUCAACCUAAUCACUUCUACAACAAAGCGAUUGUGAACGAGACUACAUCAACCAUAUUUAACCGCGAUUUUUUUCUUUUCAAUAUUAGAGAUUGUGUGCGUGUUUGAAUUAAUUGUAAUUUUGACGAAAUCACGAUGAUGCUGUAAUUUUUUAGAAGAUUCAAAGUAAAACUUUUAUCAAAAUCGUAGUAAUAAAAUGGGAUUUUACUAAACUCACACUAUAAGUCUCUUUACUAAUUUUAAUGACAUUUCACAUGCAAGCAAUGUCAUGCAAAUAUCUUCUACAUCUAAUUAAUAAUAUAGAAUAUAAACAAAUUAUGUGAAUAAAUAAACAAGACAACAAAAACACUUGACUAAUAUUGUUAUGUUUCUAUGUGAAGGAAAGAAGUGUGGCAAGACCAAGAGAGUGUCUUCCUCAAAGUCAAACGGAAAGAAAAGACAAGAGGAAGUACUUAUUUGGCAACAAGUGUCUGCCAUCAUCUGUCAUGACUUAUGACACUUUUUUGCAGCAAUUCAUUGUUCUGAAAGUCUAGGCUUUCUUUUGUUUCUAUUGUGAUUAAAUAGUCAAGCAAGGAAGGACAAAAUGAUGGGCCAUGAGGAAAGAUAGAAAUGCUAGAAAACACAGUCUUAUUAUUGAAUGAAAUUGGUGUGAGUCUCAUUGGUUUAUCUAAGAUUUAUUUCUAAAGUACGAGACUCAGGUGAAUUUUAUACAAUAAAAGAGUGGUUGUCAGACAAAGUGUUAGAAAAAGAGUGUUUUAAGAUGGAUCAAAAUAUAGGAUAUAUAAUAUAUUAAUGGAUCGACUCAUUUCACAUUUCACACUAUAGUUUCGGGCGUUAACUAUUAGUUAAGUAUAUGAAAUUGUAAACCAUUAUUAAUUUAAUAGAUGGAUUACACUUAAAUUUACAAAAUUUCAAUCACAUAAUUAGAUGAAAAAAAAUUGUCCCCGAAAAUUUAGUUAUGUUGGUAAGGACAAUAAAUAUAUGCAAGAUCUGGGAUUCAAACCUCGCACACCAUUAAAAGAUGAGAGAAAAAAUUGGUUAAGAAAAUUAAAAGAGAGAGACAAAGGCAAUAAAGAUAGAUAAUUCUUUUCGAAUGAAACACGUAUUUUAACACAUAAAAGACAACACCACAAUAUGUCGAAGAAGUGUCAUGUCCGAUAUACAUGUUCCAUGCCCUGACACGAUGCGGAUUGAGAUCAUCUCCAAUAUGCAUCCCUCUUCGACAAAGAAAAUGAGUGUGGAAGGUGAGAGAAAAAGGGGAAAACGAUAAAAAGAUUAAGAAAUAAAAAUAUUAGAGAGAUAGAUAGAGAAAAAGGCUUAAUAACAGUUUUCGCCCCUUAAGAAAAAAAAUUACAAAACUGCCCCCUAAGUUUUGCAACUGUAGCAGUUUUGGCCCCCCAAGGAAAAAAAAAGGGUUAAAUAUGUUUUUGGUCCCUAUAAAUAUACCAACUUUUUCGUUUUAAUCCCCCUAAAAUUUUCCUUCAACUUUUAGUCCCUAAAAAAAUUUUCAUCUUCACUUUUGGUCACUCUUUUAAAGUAAACUCAUAUGUAGAAUUCAUAUUUUUGAAUAAAAAUUUGCAGAAAAAUUCUUAAUAUUAUAAGAAUCUUACCCCAAAAAGUUUAGAAUUUUUUAACAAAACAUAAAUUUAAUAUGAAUUUUUAUAUUUUUUAUGGUUAAAAAAUUCUAAUUUCUUUUUGUAAUUUUUUUUACAAUAUUCUACACAUUUGUGUACAAUUUCAUUGAAAUAUACUAAAAUUAACUUUAAAUUAGGGAUCAAAAGCAGUGACUGAAAAUUUUAUAGAGACUAAAAGUUGAAGGAAAAUUUUAGAGGGACUAAAACAAAAAGUUGGUAUAUUUAUAGGGAGCAAAAACAUAUUUAACCAAAAAAAAAAAAAAAUAACACUGGGCACCUCACUUAGGGUGCCACGUCAGCGUAGACAGAGUCAAAAUUGGCCUACAGGUGCAAAACUGCCACAGGUGCAAAACUUAGGGGGCGGUUUUGUAGUAAUUUUUUCUUAGGGGCUAAAAUCGCAACUUUGAGAAAAUUAGGUGGCUGAAACUGCUAUUAAGGCAAAGAAAAAUAUAGGAGAGAAAUAGGGAAAAUAAGGAAAAAUAUAGGAGAGAAAUGGAAUAGAUGAAGUACAUGAUUUUUAAUUUUAAAGAAUAAAUUCACAACUCUAUAAUUUUAUGAAUUAAAUUUGUGAUUCAAUUUAUUUUUAAAACAAAAGUUUAUGUCCUCUGGGAGUGGGACCUGGUCAAUGUUUUAUGAAGAAGCUCUUCUGCAUGAGCCCAGCUAUGUAAAUACGGUCAAUGAAACUGCUACAAGUGAGGCCAUUUAUAGUGACCUUUGCUUUGUAAUAUUUAUUAUUUAGUACACAACUUGGCCCUAUAUAGUCUAACUUAGCUAAAUAUCAUGCAUGCAGCUUUUGUUUUUUGACUCAUCUAAUGAUGCAGCUGAAACUAUAAAACAUUGAUGAUCUAGAACCAGAAUGCUACACUACAUAGCUUCACACAUGGAAAUAUUCUUGGCCGAAAAUACAGUUUUGUGCAUGGAACUAAUAUCCAAAAUAGUUGGAUAUUAAUAAGUGAGCACUAAAACAAAUAUUCUUGUUUGUGUUGUUGGAUAUCAUCUCACUUUUAUUUUUUUGUUGGAUAUUUGUAUUGACUGCAUUGUGUUGUUGGAAUCAAUGUUCCAACGUAUCUCUGUAAGAUGUUGGAUACGAUGUUCCAACAUCCUGGCACGGUUCAGUGUGCCUGAGUUCAUGCUUAUUUGUACGGGCGCCCUUUAUUGUUUAAGGAAACAAUAUUUCCUUAUCUUAUUGAUCAAGCAACGCGCAUAUCUUUACAGAAUCAGUUGUGGAAUAUUCCUAAAGUUGUGUUUAUAUUUUAGGAAAUAUUUGAAGUUGUUUUGUGACGAUCCUAAAGAUGUUCCGACAUUAUAGGACUUUCCAUAUUUGUUUCUAAUUCUUGUUUUGCAGAUCAGUUGGACGAUCUGUUUUGUUCUGAAGCCCAACAAGUUUAUUUGACUUGAGUUGCUUCAGUAUAUAAGGGAGACUUCAAGACCUAAUGAACUAUUCAAGCCGUAAUUCUAAAAAGUUUAGAUUUUUAGGGUUUUGAGUAUACAUGUGUUCUACUCUUGUAUCAUGUUGAUGCAAGUUUAGUACCUUUAUUGUGAGCCUUUCUUGUGUCGUUUGUGAUACAUGUUAAGGACUGUGUGUUAAGUUGUAUUCACUUGUGUACUACACCAAAGCUUGUAAGCAAGGUGUUAGUUGUAUGUUUGAAGGUAACUUCACCGUUAGUUUGUGUUUUAGGUCUGAUAGGUCACAUGGGUUGUGAUUGACCAUAGGAUAGUGAGAUGAGAUCUCAGAUCUAGGAGUUCCUAGAUUGAAAUCAAUAUGGGUAGGUCCUAGGUCUUUAGUGUAAACGAGGAGUUUGCUGAGAGCUAUAGAAUAAGGACUGCACUAGUGGAUUUCCUUCCUGGAUUGGUAGCCCCCAGAGUAGGUGUGUUUGUCACCGAACUGGGUCAACAAACUCACUGUGUUCUUUACUUUCUUGUCUUUUAUUUCUUGUUUUUUAUCUCUGUUUAUUUCGUAAUGUUGGAACAUUGAACGGAACAUUAACGUUGAAACAUCUUACAGAACAUAUUAAAACAAGUGCGUUAGAAUUUCAUUUUUGCAUACCCUUAGUGACAGUUAACUGUUACUCCCUCCCUAACAGUCUUUGCCGAGCAAUAAUUAACUCUUAUUGGGGGUAAUAAUUAAAGUGAGAUGAGUAAAAUUCUACUAUUUUUUGCCGUCGAUUCUUGGAGAUAUGAGCUCUUAUAAUCAAAGUAUAGCAAGGUAAAUAAAGCAAAAAAAAAAAAAAAAAACAACAAAAGCAUCAAUCGAUAACAAAGUAUAGGUUUUGUAAAAUCAUCUGCUAAAAAAAAAAAGGUUUUGUGAAAUCAUAAUGGGUAAGUGUGAUUCCAAUAAAAUUUAUUGUGAUACAAAACAUUAGAAUAAAAUUGAUUUCUGCCAUUCCUCUAAGAUUUUGAUGAUAAAGUAUUGAAAAACAAUUGGAUAUACUAAUAAAAUCUAUUCAACGGAGUAUAAUAAAUGUGCAUGACCAUUGAUGAAGGAUUUUUACCUCUCAUAAAACUAUUUACACGUAAGUAUAAUAGGAUCGUGUCCACAGGGAGUUGCGUAUUUCAUAAGCAUUUUCACAAUAUUUGUCACAUUAAGUGUUAGGGUAUAAAUUGUUUGUUUGUGUAAAACUAUUUUCCUAAUCGACAUAAAAGUAAAACGAGAAGAGAUAGGGCUAUUCCGCUUGCGGUCAGAGACAUCAACCAAGCGUAACAGCUGCAAUCUCUCGAUCGAUUAACGGAUUCUAGCUUUUUAAACUAUAUUAUCACAAUCACUCGACAAUAUCAUUCGUGUCCAAAUGAUAUCGUUAUUUCUAAGAGAUCGUUUAAAUAUCGAUUUCCCAAACAUUUAAACGAUCACAAAGUCGUUUGGGUAGUUUAAUCGACGAUUUCCCAACCGAUUAAAUUACCCAAAAACAUUAAGUUCUAGAUUAAAAGUGAUUAUCAAAUAUUAACAUCCAUGUCUAGAGUGAUAACUUAAGAUAGAUUAUUAUUCUAUUUCUAGAUUCAAAAGUAUGUGUCCAUAUCAUUUUGAAUCUCAAUAAAACAAUAAAAACAAGAAUAACAACAAUAUUGAAUAAAUAAGCUAGAACCAUAUAUUAAAAGAUCAAAAGAUUACAUAAUAGCUUGUUUGAAUACCUCAAAACUACAAGAGUAGAUGUAGCUACAUAUGUCUAUGAUAGCUUUGCAAAGGAUGAAGAAAGGGUGAAGAUUCCAUGACAAGAUCCAUGAUGUCUCAACAAAUAUUGGCUUGAAUCUACUCCUAACUACCUUGCUUUGUGUUUCUCUCUCUAGAAAAGCCCUAGUCUCUCUCUAAAACCAGAAAAAUAUGAAUAAAAAUGUAAUAGAAUAUUUUGGAAAGAGAAGAGAAAACUAUUUAUAUGGGCUGACUGCGUGCCAGUUCGCUUAAGCGAAUCAUAGUUCGCUUAAGCGAACAUCCAGGAAAUCUAAUGUUGACCAUUGAGGAGCUGCCACGUGGUCCUUAUCUUCUGAAGUUGGAUGAACUUCGCUUAAGCGACACGCAAGCGAACGUGUGAGCGAACUUUCUUGGAGCUCUCUGUAACUAGUUCGCUUAAGCGAACCGUAGGUCGCUUAAGCGAAAUGACCUUUUCUUCAUGAGCGAACUGGAAGCGUGCUAGUAAGCGAAGAAUCCUGGUGCUCUCUGGAACUUGUUCGCUUAAGCGAACCAUAGGUCGCUUAAGCGAACUGAGCUUUAUCAUGAGCGAACUGAAGGCGUGCUUGUAAGCGAAUAGAACGGUUGCUCUCUGUAACUGGUUCGCUUAAGCGAACAGGGGUUCGCUUAAGCGAACAGACCUUGGUUCAGGAGCUUCCUUCUUUUGGUCCUUGCUUGUCAUUUCCUGCAUAAAUUGGGUAGAAUCAGGCAUGUAAAGCAUAAAUGGUAAUAUUACACUCAAAUGGUAGCUUUUCCUUAGAUAACUUGCAAAACAAGUCACUAAUUUGCCUAAGUUAACACAUGAAAUAUGUUACUUUUGAGCACUUAUCAACCAUAUAAUAAAAUCUAUUGAUGAAUUGAACAUGUAUUAUAGCAUGAGAAGCACUAGAGAAGCUUAAAAGACUAUAGUAGAAGAUAUGAAGAAAGGUCAACCAGAAGUCAACAUCUAGGAUCAGAAGAAAGGAUGCUCAUCAGACUCUGAAGGAUGCUACUCAGACUCUGAAGGAUCAUCUGACUCAGAAGGCAACGUGAGACUUGGAAGACCCCCAGCUCAGAAGAUCUUGAGGGACCCAGACUCCACGUCAGUUUUGUCAUCAUAUGUAGUUAUCUCUAUCAAGGAUCUGAGUACAGUUUUGUUUUCUUCUGACAACAUGUAGAAAUGGACAAAGAACUUCAUGGACAAAGAGAAUGAACGGAUAAUUUGAGUUUAAGCUAAGCAAAGGAAUUUCAAAUGAAUAUUCAACGGAAUUAUCCAUAUCAGGAAAUGGUCCAACGUCCUUGAUUUGAAACUUCUCAACAACUCUUAAUGCGAUGACACUCUUCUCCAUCGUCUCUCAAAUCCCUGCCUAUAAAAUGAGCUGAAGACCUGAAGAAGAUCAACAAGACUCUGCUAUUUUUACCGUGUCAUUACUAUGUCAAAAUCAAAUAGAGAAAAAACACUUAGAAUUUCUUAUAUAAGUUUAUAUCUUAGAAAUUCUAAAGUCUUAAGAAUAUGUUCAAUAUUUUUCUGUUUAUACCUCUGAUUCUAUAUCAAGUGUAAGAACAAAUUUGUUUACUUGUAAACAAAUAGAAAUCUCUUGCUUGUGAAGUUUGAGCACUAGAAGUCUCUCUCUCUCUCUCUCUCUCUCUCUCUCUCUCUCUCUCCCUCUCCCUCUCCCUCUCUCGCUCUCCCUCUCCCUCUCUCUAUAUAUAUAUCAGAUUCUGACCAAUGUUUAAAACUUAAAAAAAGAAUCAAACACAAUUUAACCCCAUUCUUAUGUUUUUCUCACCUUCAAAACAUGCACUAACUCAAUAUACAAAGUUAUAUAUAUGGAGAUCAAUUUACUGAAAUAGUAAACCUUUUAAAGUUGCUCUAAAUAAAAAAUAUAUAUAUUUUUAUAGUUACAUCCCGGUUACAUACAUAAGAAGAAAAAAAAGCUCUUACAAUGAUUAUGAAAUACAGUAAAGUGUAGUCAAUUUUCUAGAUUUUGUAUAAAGCAUAUAAGUUAAAGUGACUACAAAUAAUACCUAAGAAUAUAAUUAAUGAUUUGAAAAAUCCUCUCAACGUCUUUGAGUCAUGUCUGAGCUCCGUCAAGAUCAUAUCUGCCCUUAAAGUUAGGCGGAUGGUUCCUCAGAAAAGUCUCUAACAUACGAACUCCAUCAUUACCUCCAACAUUAGGCUGUUGCCCUACAGCUUGAGCCACAACUUCCAACACAGCAGCAAUAGCAGCAUCCUUCCUUCCAGCCAUCUCGGUUCACUAUACAACAAACAUUAAUUAGGAAACACAACGACAGUAUUCAACUGUCACACGACACCAACGACUCAACUACUUGGUCGAACGGACCGACUUGCUCUGAUACCAAUUGUAACACCCUGUUUUUCCAAUAUAUAAAUAAUAUAAAAAAGAUCAGAGUUCAUCACAAACAGGAUGUCACAUUUCGUUCUUCAAAAUAAUAUUUAACACAAAUAGAGUUAAAAUCCACUCUUUAUUUAAAUCAUCUGCUAACAACAAUUUUCAACAACGUCGCAAAAUAUUUAUUCUUUCAACAAAAUGGCACUAAGGCCUCAACAUAAACAACGUCAAUAAACAACAAAGUCCCCAUCCUGUUAUGUAUCAUAGCGACUCCUAAGACGACACGGGGAAUAACUCACAUCAGCGGUUACUUCUGGUUAUCUGCACGUUACCCACGUAGAGGCAACAUUCAAACAGAGGGGUGAGAUUUCACAUUCAAUAAUAAUAAGCAUAUAAUUCUAUAAAAGAAUUUAACAACACAAAAUAGCAUCAAUUCAUCAUUAACGAUAUUAAUAAACAAUAAUUCAUGUGAGAGAAUUUAACAACAUAAAACAACAUCAAUUCAUCAUUAACAAUAAUUCAUGUGAGAGAGUUUAACAACUCGAAACAACGGCAAUUCAUCUUCAACAAUGCUUCACAUAAUUCCAAUCAACAAUUCAUCAAUUAUCUUCACUUCAACAAUGCAAUAAUAACAACAACAACAAUACAACAACAACAACAAUUCGACAAUGCAACAACAACAACUCAACAAAUGCUAAUAUGCAUGUGGUACCAUCAGAGCAUCAAGCUCCUUACAACAGAGCAUCAAGCUCCCUUUUAUUAUAUAACAGAGCAUCAAACUCCCAUCGAUUAAAUAACAGAGCUUCAAGCUCCAUUUGCUUAAAAUUAACAGAGCAUCAAGCCCUCUUCGCUUAAAAUGAUUAUGUAUUAGAAAGAACUCGAUUAGUACUUUUAAUGGCAUUUUAAGCAAAAAUUAGCAAGCGAUGUUUAGAUAAACUGAUCAGAUAAAGAAACCACAUAAGAUUGAACUCAACCUUCCUUCAAAACAAAAAAGAAAAAUAUUGAACCCAACCUCUCUCUCUCUCACUCUUCUUCGGAACACCGUGACCUUCAGAAAGUUUCGGUUUUCAUCUUUGUUAACCAGACGCAACCUCACAUCACGUUUAUCGACCGUUCUCUCUUCAACUUUCCAGAUUCGACAUAUCUCCAACAACACUACUUCAUGGAUCGACGAACCGCAUCGUAAGACCUGGAUCGCGGGACUCAUGGACACUCAAUCAACGAGUCCUGAGUUAUGAGAUCUCUUAUAUGCCUGUGACAUGGAAAGGUAUAGAAAAACCAAAAGCCGUAAUAGUCAUAACAUGUCAAGAAUCAAAUACAAAAUAAGGUCCGAGUACCAAAUUGAUCCAUGUCAAAUAGUGUACACGUACCUGAGAUUGAAAGACGUGAAGCUAAUGUAAUGAGAGAGAGUUUAUUAUCUUAUGUUUGUUUUGGAUCUGAUAUGAUUUGUUUAUUUCGGAUCUGAUUUGCUUUGUUUCUUUCUUCUGGAAAAGAAUAUGAUAUGCUUUGUUUAUUAUUAUGGGGUAAUAUUAAAUUCAACAACAGUAAAUCAUUGAUGGUAAGUUUGAUAAGUUAUUUUUAAUUAAUACAUGAUGAGGACAUUUAUUCAAUCAUUGAUUUUAUCAAAAAUAAAAUAAAAUAAAAUAAUAUCUACCAUUGAUUUGUUAAUUUAACCUAUUCAAAGUGAUUUCUGUACUUUAGAGUGUGAAAUGAAUAAGAGAAUUGUUGUUCACACAUUUGAUAAGGCUGAGAAACACGAGUAAAAUUCGUUUUUGCCCCCUUGGCAGUUAACUACCGAGCAAUUCAUCAUCAACAAUGCUUAACAUAAUUCCAAUCAACAAUUCAUCAAUUAUCUUCACUUCAACAAUGCAAUAAUAACAACAACAAAGCAUAUCAUAUAACCUCAUAUCAUCAACAUAUACAUUCAUAUAAUAAUUCAUCAAUCAUGAGCAACAUCAUAUAACCUCAUAUCAUCAACAUAUACACUCAUAUAAUAAUUCAUUAAUCAUGAACAAUAUCAUAUAUAUUCAUAUAAUAAUUCAUCAAUCAUGAACAACAUCAUAUACAUUCGUAUUUAUCAACAUAUACACUCAUAUAAUAAUUCAUUAAUCAUGAACAACAUCAUAUACAUUCAUAUAAUAAUUCAUCAAUUACGAACAACAUCAUAUAUAUUCAUAUAAUAAUUCAUCAAUUAUGAAAAACAUCAUAUACAUUCAUAUUCAUCAACAUAUACACUUAUAUAAUAAUUCUUUAAUCAUUAACAUCAUAUAACCUCUUAUUCAUCAACAUAUACACUCAUAUAAUAAUUCAUUAAUCAUGAACAACAUCAUAUACAUUCAUUCAAUCAUGAACAACAUCAUAUAUAUUUAUUAAAUAAUUCAUCAAUCAUGAACAACCUCAUAUAUACUCAUAUAAUAAUUCAUCGAUCAUUAACAACAUCAUAUUCAUCAACAUAUACAUUCAUAUAGAUAUUAAAUCAUCCAACAAAGAUAUUCACGUCACACCAAGUUAGAUCCAUCACAACAUAGGUUAAAUACUCUUAAACACCUUAAUUCAACUCAUAGUACACAAGUUUUGAAUUUUGGAGACAAUCCAUAAAUUUUGGGUUGACUUACAAAUAGUUAUGCGGAAUUUUUAUAAAAUUUCACUAAGAUUGAACUCAACCUUCCUUCAAAACAAAAAAGAAAAAGAUUGAACCCAACCUCUCUCUCUCUGUCACUCUUCUUCGGAACACCGUGACCUUCAGAAUGUUUCGGUUUUCAUCUUUGUUAACCAAACGCAACCUCACAUCACGUUUAUCGACCGUUCUCUCUUCAACUUUUCAGAUCCGACACAUCUCCAACAACGCUACUCCAUGCAUCGACGAGCCGCGGUGUAAGAUCUGGAUCGCGGGACUCAUGGGCACUGAAUCAACGAGUCCUGAGUUACGAGAUCUCUUCUAUGCCUGUGACAUGGAAGGGUAUAGAAAAACCAAAAGUCGUAAUAGCCAUAACAUGUCAAGAAUCAGAUACAAAAUAAGGUCCGAGUACCAAAUUGAUCCAUGUCAAAUAGUGUACACGUACCUGAGAUUGAAAGGCAUGAAGGUAAUGUAAUGAGAGAGUUUAUUAUAUUAUGUUUGUUUUGGAUCUGAUAUGAUUUGUUUAUUUCGGAUCUGAUUUGCUUUGUUUCUUUCUUUUGAAAAAGAAUAUGAUAUGCUUUGUUUAUUUUGGAUCUGAUUUGCUUUGUUUUUUUCUUUUUGGAAAAGAAUAUGAUAUGCUUUGUUUAUUAUUGUGGGUUAAUAUUAAAUUCAAUAACAGUAAAUCAUUAAUGGUGCGUUUGAUAAGUUAUUUUUAAUUAAUUCAUGGUGGGAACAUUUAUUCAAUCAUUGAUUUUAUCAAAAAUAAAAUAAUAUCUACCAUUGAUUUGUUAAUUUAACCUAUUCAAAGUGUGAAAUGAAUAAGAGAAUUGUUGUUCACACAUUUGAUAAGGCCGAGAAACACGAGUAAAAUACGUUUUUGCCCCCUUGGCAGUCAGUUAACUGCCGAGCAAUUCAUCAUCAACAAUGUUUCACGUAAUUCCAAUCAACAAUUCAUCAAUUAUCUUCACUUCAACAAUGCAAUAAUAACAACAACAACAACAAUGCAACAACAACAACAACAAUUCGACAAUGCAACAACAACAACUCAACAAAUGCUAAUAUGCAUGUGGUACCAUCAGAGCAUCAAGCGCCCUUCGAUUAAAUAACAGAGCAUCAAACUCCAUUUGCUUAAAAUUAACAGAGCAUCAAGCCCUCUUCGCUUAAAAUGAUUAUGUAUUGACACAACCAAUGCAACAACAACAACAACAACAACCACGACAACUUUGCAUUAUGACUUCAUAAUUCAUCAAUCAUAAACAACAUCAUAUACAUUCAUAUUCAUCAACAGAUACAUUCAUAUAAUAAUUCAUUAAUCAUGAACAACAUCAUAUAACAUCAUAUCAUCAAGAUAUACACUCAUAUAAUAAUUCAUUAAUCAUGAACAACAUUAUAUAUAUUCAUAUAAUAAUUCAUCAGUCAUGAACAACAUCAUAUAACGUCAUAUUCAUCAACAUAUACACUCAAAUAAUAAUUCAUUAAUCAUGAACAACAUCAUAUACAUUCAUAUAAUAAUUCAUCAAUUACGAACAACAUCAUAUAUAUUCAUAUAAUAAUUCAUCAAUCAUGAAAAACAUCAUAUACAUUCAUAUUCAUCAACAUAUACACUCAUAUAAUAAUUCAUCAAUCAUUAACAACAUCAUAUAACCUCAUAUUCAUCAACAUAUACACUCAUAUAAUAAUUCAUUAAUCAUGAACAACAUGAUAUAUAUUUAUUAAAUAAUUCAUCAAUCAUGAGCAACCUCAUAUAUAUUCAUAUAAUAAUCCAUCAAUCAUUAACAACAUCAUAUUCAUCAACAUAUACAUUCAUAUAGAUAUUAAAUCAUCCAACAAAGAUAUUCACGUCACACCAAGUUAGAUUCAUCACAACAUAGGUUAAAUACUCUUAAACACCUUAAUUCAACUCAUAGUACACAAGCUUUGAAUUUUAAAGACAAUCCAUAAGUUUUGGGUUGACUUAGAAAUAGUUAUGCGGAAUUUUCAUAAAAUUUCACUAAGAUUGAACUCAACCUUCCUUCAAAACAAAAAAGAAAAAGAUUGAACCCAACCUCUCUCUCUCACUCUUCUUUGGAACACCGUGACCUUCAAAAUGUUUCGGUUUUCAUCUUUGUUAACCAAACGCAACCUCACAUCACGUUUAUCGGCCGUUCUCUCUUCAACUUUCCAGAUCCGACACAUCUCCAACAACACUACUCCAUGCAUCGACGAGCCGCGGUGUAAGAUCUGGAUCGCGGGACUCAUGGGCACUGAAUCAACGAGUCCUGAGUUACGAGAUCUCUUCUACGCCUGUGACAUGGAAGGUUAUAGAAAAACCAAAAGCGGUAAUAGCCAUAACAUGUCAAGAAUUAGAUACAAAAUAAGGUCCGAGUACCAAAUUGAUCCAUGUCAAAUAGUGUACAUGUACCUGAGAUUGAAAGGCGUGAAGGUAAUGUAAUGAGAGAGAGUUUAUUAUAUUAUGUUUGUUUUGGAUCUGAUAUGAUUUGUUUAUUUCGGAUCUGAUUUGCUUUGUUUCUUUCUUUUGAAAAAGAAUAUGAUAUGCUUUGUUUAUUACAGAUCUGAUUUGCUUUGUUUCUUUCUUUUUGGAAAAGAAUAUGAUAUGCUUUGUUUAUUAUUAUGGGAUAAUAUUAAAUUCAACAACAGUAAAGCAUUAUUGCUGCGUUUGAUAAGUUAUUUUUAAUUAAUUCAUGGUGGGGACAUUUGUUCAAUCAUUGAUUUUAUCAAAAAUAAAAUAAAAUAAAAUAAUAUCUACCAUUGAUUUGUUAAUUUAACCUAUUCAAAGUGAUUUCUUUACUUUAGAGUGUAAAAUGCAUAAGAGAAUUGUUGUUCAGCAUUAGCACCAGCACCAGCAUUAGGCUGUUGCCCCACAACUUGAGCCACAACUUUCAAUGCAGCAGCAAUAGCAGCGUCGUUUCUUCCAGCCAUCUUUGUUCUAUACACAACAAACAUCAAUCAAAACAGCAUAAAGACAGUAAUACAACUGUUACUCGACACUACUCGACUCAACUACUUAGCCGGAUGGACCGACCUGCUCUGAUACCAAUUAUAACACCCCGUUUUUCCAACAUAAAAAUUUCAUUUAAAUAAUCAGAUUUUUCCACAUAAACGGAAUGCUACACUUCUUAAAUCAUAAACGAAAAUAAAUAACAAUUUAUUCUUCAAAAAUCCAACAACAUAUCUAAUACUUCGCAGCGGAUUAAAUUCAACAUCUAAAAUAGUCUUGACACAAAGGCCUCAUCAAACAUCUUAUAAAAUUCAAUUUAACAACUUAAUCAUGUAUAUUCAUAAGCAAUACGUAAGGAAUAGAAAAUAGCCACAAAGUUCUCAUCCCGUUAUGUAUCAGAGCACCUAAAGACACACGUGAGAGAUAGUCCACUCACGACAGCAACUUAUUCUCGAUCACCUGCAAGUUACUCAUACGAAGGGCAACAUUUCCAAGCAGAAGGGGUGAGAUUUCACAUUCAAUAUAAUAAGCAUAUAAUUCAUCAAAAGCAUUUAACAACUUAUAUUUCAUCAAUUAAUAACAUUACUCUUAUUAUAAUGCUUCAUUAAUAACUCAAUCAACUUCUAAUCAUUAUUAACUUCAUAUUCAUCGCAUUAUUAACAACUUAGACAUCUCAUACGACUCCAAUAAUUUGGAUCAACAUCUUACAACUUAACAACUUAUACAUCUUAAUGGUAUUAAUUCAUCGCAACAGCAAGACAUCAUCGUUUAAACAUAUGCAGCAAGUCACCAUCAUUAAUAAUCAUCAAUUAUAACAAUUACAACUUCAUAUCAACGUCUUUCACAAUAUAUAAUAUUUUCACAUUUAAUCAUAAAAGUAAAUUAUCAAUAUUAAUCAUCUUAUUCAUCCUCUCUGAACCUCAUUAUAAUCCUUAACAACUUCAUUCCUACCCCAUGGGUCGACUCAUAACAUCACGUGCGACAAAAGAUCGCAAGAAACCUAAACAAGAUUGUCUGCCACAAGGUUACUCGCGAGGCGAGGCUCUCUACUCGCUAUGGCGAGUUCAGAAAAAUGGUGCACUCGCUAUGGCGAACUCACUACUCGCCAUGGCGAACUGAAAAAGGGUGCUCUCGGGAGUUUUGACAUUUUUCACUCAAAAACCUCAUUCCUGACUUCUCUACGUCCAAUCUUGAUCUAAAAACUUGCCCAAUCAUUCCUAAACAGGUUAAGGCACUCAAAACCAUCUAAAACUUGACCUCUAACAUCAACUCACAAAAUCAUGUUUCCUUCACUGGUCAACUCGCUAUGGCGAGCAAAUUCUGGGCUUACUCGCGAGGCGAGAGGGUUUACUCGCUAGGCGAGCGAUGAACUUCGUCACUCGCGAGGCGACUACUCAUACUCUCCAGGGCGAGCGAUGAAUGUUAACUCACUCUUGGUUCUAACAUCAAAACUGAUUCUAAACAUUGUUCUAUGAAUAUUAUAAGGUCUGGACACUAUCUCUACAUCAAUCUAACCGAUUAUUCAUCUUAAUUAAUCAAUUCUCCAUCUUUUAACCUAAUUCUCAAACUCUCAAAAUCAUCUCCCUCUACUUGUUAAAUCCAUUUUCAGAAUCAUACAACUUAGAAUUAGAGAAAGUCAGUCCCACCCUUACCAUAAUAUUGAUGAUCGGCGGUCUCUCUCCCUCUUGGUUCUCCUCUUCUCUUGUUUUCUCCCUUUUUCUCCAAAAAGCAGUUUCACGUAAAAGCUUUGCUAAACUUAGUUUCCUCCUUAUAUCUCUCCUCCAUCCACUUUAUCUUAUUUCCUCUAUUUCCACAAAACUCUUCUAAAUUCCAAAACAGCGCCACAUCUCAAUAUUUAUUUUAUUUUCAAAUCUUAUUCUAGUAAAUAAUAAAAUAAGUCUUUAAAUAACACAUCACAUAAAUCAUCAAAGUGGAUUCUAAACUCUAUAAAAUAAUUAAAUAAUUAAAGAGGGCGUUACAUCAGAGACUCCAAUAUCAAAUGUAGUCAUCUCCACCACCGGCCUAUUGUAACAAGAUGCAACGAUGUGUCCCAUAUCCGGCAAUGUCAACCAUUUGUCGGGAGUUGCAAAGCUACUAGUAUUUUUGGGAGGAUGCAAUCCAUCCAAAAUGUACUUGUAACAGUCCGCGCUCAUAUAUACCUCGAUGUAUUUGUUCCUAUGCUCUUUCAACUCUUUAAUAAGUGCUCUCCGCACCAUAACAUGACUUUCUUCCGUCAAACCCACGCGUUUGGCAAUAGUCCUAAACCCACAAUGUUUGUCACCAAUAACAUCCACAAUUCCGUCAAUGUAUUGUCGUCCUCCAUUAAUCUUCCGGCAAGAAGGUGCCCUGCUACAUACCGCACCAUCUCAUGGUUGUGAACGCCAUUAAGAAUAGCCAAUUUCCAAGCAUUGUUUUCCCUCACGACAUAUCCACGCACCUUGAACAAACACCCACAUUUUCUUGAUCUCGUUGCCUCAUGCUUCACUUUUGUCUUCGGUAAUUUGUGCUCGCCGAACCAACUCCAACAUAGUAUUUCUACCUUCACAAGAUCUUCUAAUGAUAAUCGUAAAUCCAGCCCUAUUUGCUUGUCGACGGACCCAACCGAGCAAUUCGUUUUUAUCUUUCCAUGUGUCUCGGGUCGAAAAUAAAUGAGUCGUGUCCACUUCGUUGUCACGAAGUUUCCACACAUCGGAAUUGACGCUUGAAGCCUCAACUUUAAUGGAAGCUUCGACCUUAGCGGGAGCUUCAACCUUAAUGGAAUCGACAACUCUAGGUUUUUGAUCACCCGAAUCAUCACCCGCAUUCUCAACCUUAUCUAUAAAUAAACAACAUACAAUUACUAAACUAAUUAAUAAACUUUUAUCUAAUAUCAUAUAAUAACAUAAACAAAAAAAAAAAAAAAAGGGAAAAAAAUUGGGCAGUAGCUACUGCCAUUUGAAAAUUUUUAAAAUUUUCUAAGUUACCGCCGACAGUUAACAACCGCUCACACCCAGCGGUAGUUAACUGCCGCUAAAGGUCGUGACAAUACAAAAAAAAACCAGAAAAUUCAAUAAAAUGUAAUGGAUUUUAACGUUGUAAUACCUGUUCUUUGAUGCAUAUUAUGUGUAGAAACAUCCUAGCAAUCGAUCAACAAUGAUUUGGAAGCAAGAUUUUGACACAAAAAUUUUGAAAUGAGGAUUUUUUGGGUAUGGUAUUGGUGAUCUAAGGUGAUGAAUGAAUAGGAGAUGUAGGGGUUUUCUGGUUUUGGGGGGAAAACCAACGGCAAUUAACGACCGCUGGAACCAGGCACGUCAGUUUGAAUGGGUCAACCUUUACUCUAAAUGGCUGAGAUGCGGAGAGCGCAUGGUGAGAUAUCUGCCGGAGAGGGUGCUUCGUUAGUUUGGGUGGGUUCAGACCAUACCAAGACAUCCUGUUCAGAGUGCACCUGUUGAUGUUAACUUGGCGGAGAUCACAAACCGCUUUCAUCGUACACUUGAUUAUACGCUGACACCUCAGGAGUUGGGAGAGAUUGCAGUUCAUGGUGUGGAUGCAGAAGAAGGAUACAUCGAGUGGUUUUACCAGGUGUCUUAUCCACGCACGAUUCUUCCCGACAUGCCGGUACGUGUUCCGAGGCCACCGGAGCGUGAGAUCCUUGAUGCGUGAGCUACUAAGGAGGAUGAAGAUCUUGCGUACUUACAACUUAGCGGAAGGAUGAGCCGCAUCAGAGACCACAUCUAUGUUGUGAUGAGAAAUUGUCUGGUGCCGAAAGGGACUGAGGAAUGGCAGCAUUUGGGGGAUGCAUUGAGAGAGGUGCAUGAUGGGAAAGUUUACCGUCGUCGGGGAGCUACUUAGGGUGGCAGGGGUGGUGGCAGAGGUGGCGGUGGUACGGGUGUAGUUAUUAGGGGCUGAUAGUAUUGUAUUUUAUGUUUAUGUUUGAACAUUUUGAAUGCUUUUGAAUUAUGUAACACCUGGAUAAUUUUUAAUGUUAUGUAAUCUUGGAUAAUUUUUAAUUAUAAUUGAUUAAUGUUUUGUUCGAAAAUUAUGUUGUGUUGAUUAUUUUAAUGUUUAUAAGUUCGAUUUACUGUUAGAACAUGUUAGCGGUAUGAUAUGUCUGUUUGGAAGCAAGCAAAAUGCGCCAAAACAGAGGCUCAGCCAAAACAGAUGGCUUCUGCCUCUGUCCUGAUGCAGUCCAGAUUAUAUAAUCCUGACAGGUUUAGCACAUUCGGAUUAUGUAAAUCAUCGUUCACCCUCCCCCCCUUUGUUGACUUUCAAUGGGGUCAUUUACACGUUUCGGAUUAUAUAAUCCGGAAGCUAUCUAACUUUUUCGGAAUAUAUAAUCCGUAACAAUAUAUUCAUAAAUGGCAUCAUCAUCCAUCAGGGUGGAUGAAGUGCCAAAAUACACGAAUAAAUCCGGAAUGAGUUCGGAUUAUAUAAUUCAGACUAGGGGUAUUAUGGAAAAAAUAUAGGGCGCGCGAGGAAAGGCAUAGGGUGGGAAAAACAACACUCUAAAUCAUAAUGCUUCGAUCUGCACUAUAUAUACCACAAGUCUCACUCUGUUUUUAUUGUGUUUUCUUUUAAAGCUAUAUCUUUUGAUUUUGCAACCCAACCUAGACCACAUUGACUAGAAAGUGCAUUCAACGUAGAGACGUGUACGGUUUUUCCUUCAUGUUAUUUUUUUUUUUCUGCAACAUCUUUGUUCAACUCUUUAUUGAAUGGAAUAUUCGAUUUAUUUAACUAAAGCUUUAAAUAGUUUCCCCAAUAACAAGAUGAAUGGUUGGUUAUAUAAGGAAAUGGAAGAAAAUAAAAAUUAAACUUUAUAUGCAAGAUAAAGACCUAUGCCACUAGGAAUCAAAAUUAUAGGAUCCCAUAAUUAGUUCCACCAAUUUGUCUUUUAAAAAACAACACUUAGUGGAAUCUGUGUAUAUAUACUUUUACCAAAAGUUCAAGAAGCACAUUUUCUUAUGAAAAUAAAGAGAUUUUAACAAGACAAGAAAGUGAUACUUUAGAUUACGUUGGUUUAGUGGCAUUGUAGCACCCUCAUUGCUCCAUUCUCCACUAUGUUUUGCAUUAGCAUGCAUUUAGCUUUGUCAAUAUUAUUUUUAGGUAGCUUUACGCAUUUUUCUUUGGACAUUUUUAUUUUGGAUUCAAUUAAUAUAAAAAAUGUAAAGAUUUUUUAUAUUGUCAAUUAGCAUUUUUUUUCCUAACCUGCCGUAAUUAGAAUCUUUGAUUCUGAAAGAGGUAUUCUCAUAAUUUAGAUUCAUUUGAAUAUGUUAUGAGACUAAUAUUCAAGUUAAUGGACAUUUAUUUAUUUUUUAUUAGAAUUGAACUACCUUCUAUCUCUCAAAUGGACGUCACACAUGUUGUUUUCUUAAAAAAAAUUAUAUUAAAAAAAUUAUAUUAUCAACUCUCUCAAUACCCUCUUUAGUAAAUUGACUUUUAUGAACAUUAAAAGUCACACAUAUGAGAUAAUUUAUUAUGCUUGUAAUAUACUAGUGUCAAACUAAAAUCUUCAAGUCUUUAUUUUACGGUAAGUUUAAACUUCAACAAAGUAAAUAAUUACUUAUAUAUAGAACAUUCCUUAAUUUUAAGGAUAUGAGUGUUACCUUAAUAAACUCGCAAUAUAGUAGGAAAAAAACAUUUCAAGGAAGGAUACGUACAAAGUCCUGUUUAAGAUAACUGGAUAAGUAAAACUUGUUCAAUAUAAUUCAAUUUUAGAUAUAAGUCUUGACUAUACCGGUCUUUAGAUCAGAUAUCGAGUUUUCAAAAAAAAAUAAAAUAGAAUACAAGGAGAACACAAAUUUAAUCGAUCUAAUUCAUAAUUAGCGAUAUAAAAUUGACGAAGUUAAGUAUAUCAAAUUCUAGAUAAGUUUGAUAUAUAUUGGAAGAUGAUGAAUGAACAAACGCGGUCAGCCUUAGGUUAUUUAUUGAUAAAAAAUUAUCCAUCUUUAUCAUUUUUUCUCUUUUAAUCUAAAUAAAUUAUUUUUACAUUGAUUUAAAUUUUUCUUCUGUGAUUCCGUUUUUCAGUUGAUUAUUGUUUUGUUUGUUGUCAAUUGAUAAAGUGAGGCAUUACUUGUUUGAUAAGUUACAUAUAUCAAACUUUUUUUUUGUCAAAUAGUCUAAUGACUAUAGAAUUCACCUUUAACACGAAUUAGUGGGGUGUUGGAGUUUGAAAUCCGACCCUUGCAUAUUUCAAUGCAUUGUCCCUAUCAAUUUAGUUGUGCUCACGGAGAUAAAAUAUAUUAAAUUUUAUAAAUUUGAUGAUAUAAUUCACAUAUAAAAACUUCUAAUUAAUCCCUUCAAAAAAACUUCUAAUUAAUGUAAUAAAACAAUUCUAAUUACUUUCUUUUUGUUUAUUGUUUCAUUCAUAAUAUUAUUAUGUAUGUACAAUACGAUCGAUGCAUGCUAGAACCCUCACAUGACCUUUCAUUUUCUUUCCAUUUCGAUCAUUGUUUACACUUUCAAAUGGCAAUUUUAUGGAUGAUAACAAAACACAUUUGAGCACAAUUAAGGUACAAAAAAUGUUCAAGCCCAAAGGGCAAGAAUAGACAUAGAAGCAGAACCCAUAGUUAAUGCAACAAAAGAAGCCUUUUUCAAACGUGGAUCAGAAUUCAUAAGCUUGUUGUGAAAGAAAUCAGCUGCUAUGAGAUCAACAAGUGCCAUAUAAAUUAGAAUUCCUGAAGAAAUUGAACCUAGUAACCCUUCAAUUAUUAAGGCAUUAGGGUUACUAUCAUCAUAACCAGUCAAUGAGAAUAAUAUCAUCCCUAAAAUUAUCCCCAUUGGGGUUGUUACUGAAAACAUGAAGCACAUGUAUGCCACUGUUCCAUAGCUAAAUCCUGCCUGCAAUUAUUAAUGGUAAGAUAUGUAUUAGCAUAACACCAUGUAACAUAUUUAAGAUUUAAAAGGUUAUUUCUUUUUAUUAUUUCUAUUCUUUGUUGUCCAUUGUAUUUGAACCUAAUGAUAAGAUUUUGACAUUUGGAAAUUCAAAUCUCAUAUGUUAUAAUCUUAAGAUGGUCAAUAGUGACACUAAUUGAUAAUAAUUUCCCAAUCCUCAAUAUUACUAUUAUUUUCUUAUAUAUAUUUGACCAUCUAGACCAUUAGAAUGGGUUUGUGUGACUAGAAGAAGAAAAUUGUUUUAUCCACGUAAGAAGUUGUUUAAAAACACAUAAAAAUGACAAAAAAAACUUCAAUGGUAGUUAACUAAAACUCGUUUUUCUUGCUUGAAGCGAGCUGCAAUUAAAUACCGUUGCGGUUUUUAGUUAUUUUCAUAUGUUUUUUGGUCAAGUAAUAUAUUGGCUAGAAUUCACCUCAUAAGGUGAAUAAGUGGAGUAUCCGAAGUUCAAAUCCCAAUCACUACAUAUAACAAUACAUUAUCUUUGUCUACUGAGAUAUGCUCCCAGUGAUAAUUUCAUGUGUUUUUAAGCAACUUCUUACAUGAAAAAGAAAUUUUCCAAAAAUAUAAUUAUGGGUAAAGGUGUAAAAACAUUAUACUAUUUGACCAUUUAAACCACCAUCUUUCUAUUAUUAAAAUAUUUGUCACUGACUUUGGUCAACAUGUUAAUUUUUGACCAUUUAAACCAUCAUCUUUCUAUCAUUUUCCAAAUGACUUUAUGACUUUGGUCAACAUGCUAAUUUUUUUUGAGUGGUGAUACAUGUACACCCCCAUGUGGCAAUACACCUCUUACACCCACACAAAAUUUUGACAUGUGGCAAGGAAAAGAGAGAGGAGAUGAAAGAGAAAGUAUGGUUGUGAGAUAAAUUUACCAAAAUAUCCUUAAUGCAUGGGCUUACAAUAGGGUGUAUGAUUAAAGGAUGUUCAUGUAACAUUUUCCUUUUUUUUCUAACAAAACUAUGUGUUUGUCACUGAAAUACAAUACAAGUACAUAUAUUGUUGUUUUCCUGGACAGAGUGGACAACAUGUUGAGUUGUCAAGAAAAUGAAAGAGUACGAGUAGCUAAAAUCAAGUUCUGUCAUGAAGCAACAAUAAAAACAAAACAAUAGAUUUGGAGAUAAGAAUCUCCAAGUCCCCAACAAAUCAACAAUAAUGAAAAUCAAUAAAAUCAUCUUCAACAUCAUUACACGUUUAAACAAAAUCAUGUAGCCACUGGGCUAGGAAUUCAAAAAUUGAGGUUCGAACUCUGACUUCUGCAUGUAUGUUAGACUUAUAUAGUAACAAUAUCACUGUAAUUCUAGUAUCAAUCAUAACAUCCAAUUAACUUUUUAUCUUUCAUAAAUCCUCUCUCUAAUAAAUAUUUCUCAGCAAUGAUAAUAAUCAAAGUAGAGCAAGAGAAAGAAAGAAUUAAGAAACUAACCUGAGCAACACAACCACCAAGACCCAUCCCUUCAAAAAUCUGAUGAAAAGCCAAAGCAGCAACUAAAGGCCUUAUAGUACAAACAUUUUGAGACAUACCCAUAGUCACACCAAUUAUAACUGAAUGAAAUAUUAUCCCAAUCUCCAAUACUUGUGAAACCAAUCUUUGUUUCAAUUUAAUUAACUCUUCCCCUCUUUCACAAUCUCCUUCACCACCUUCCAACUCCAUCUCUUUCUCACCCACCGGCGCAUACUGUCCGUGCUCCACGUGGGAACUCGCUACGAGGUCCACGAAGAGCGCGAGAAUUGCGCCGAUGAGAGUUACUAGUCCUGAGAAGGGAAAAUCCUUCCAAGGAUGACGGGAUGCCACGUGGCAGUCAGCGAGUGCUGCGUAGGCGUCUGGGAGGACGUGGACUAGGGAAGUGGAGAGUAUCACGCCUGCCGCGAAACAUUUUAUUAAUACUAAUGCUCUAUCGUAUAACGGUUUUCCUUGGAAGACACGAGCUAAAAGUACUGGCGCCGUCAUACCGACGGCGCUGGUGAUGAAUAUGACAAAGAGGGAGAUUAUUUUUAGAUGUGAUGCCGCGGCGCCGUCGCGGCAUGAGGUUUCUCGAGCUAUGUCUUGUGAACAUGAUGUUGCCAUGUGAGAGAGAAGUGUUGGGAGAGAGUGAAUGUGUUUGAAGUUGAAGAUGACGAGGAAGGUUGUUUUGAAGAGGGAAAAGAAAGUGAGUGAUAAAUGAUGUGGACCAGUUUCUGUUUUUGUUGUAGAUUAUGCACCAUGUGGGGUAUCCUAUAGAUGUUGUUUUCCAUUGUUACGUGUUGGAAUCUUGAAUUAUUCUUACACUCAUUUGUCAUUUCUCUUUUCUUUCUUUUUUAGAUUUCUAAGAAAAUAAAUUUUGAAAACAAGUGAUAAUGAUAACAACACUUACUCUAACUUUUAUUUUGUUGUCAAAAAUAAAUCGACAAAUAUCAUUAAAACUCACAUAUAUAACUGUUCAAUAACGAGUUUAAAAUCGGAUGAACGAAGAUGUACGUCAUAAAUUUUGACAAAGACAACAAAGGUAGGGUUUGUCAAAAAAUAAAACAGAGGCUGGUCUUACAUACAAUCCUAUUUUUAUUGCUAGCUUAUUGAUGAAACAUGUUUUAAUGGAGCUACUUGUAUUUUAUUUAAUAAAAGAAUCGAUAUUACAAAAGAGAGUUAUAGUAUAUGUUACUUACAAAAUAUAUAUAAUUGAAUAAAGUAUUGAGAUUUUUUUUUUGGUUGAUGUUGAUAUUAGUAAGUUUACACAUGACCUGCCUAACACGUAUUAAGAUUUAUUACGAAAUUUGAAAACUUAGUCACGGUUGUAAUAUGGAAGAGAUAACAUAAAUUUUAGUUUUUUACAAAUUUUUUACGAGGACAAUAUAAUUUUUUUUUGACAAAGACAAAUAUAAAAAAUAAAAUCUAUUUUUAAACUUCAAUACAUUAAAUUUAAAGAUCAUGCAAACUUGUGUCUUAAGGACACAUGUUAAAGAACUAUAAAUAAUAAUUAUUGAUUUUAUCUAUGGUACAUUAAUAAAUAGGGAGCUUCUAUGAAGAAGUCGAGAAAUUGACUUUUUUAGUGAAGUCGUUUAAUUCAACCAAUCAGAUUUCAAGUCAUGACACGUCAGAUGUUGGGAUAAAUUUUAAUAUGGAUCACUUGCUUCAUAUGUUCCACCAUAGACAAGUUUAUUUCAAAAUUUUAACGGUUAGAUUUGUUUGGUCUCUAUGUUAUUGUGGUACACCCUCUACACAUGAUUUUUCUUAUUUUUCCAAUUCUCUUUCCUCUUUAUCACUCAUUCAUCUCUCUCAUAUUUCUUUCUCUUUCUUUAUUUAUCCAUAUUCCCUUUCUUCCAGAUUUUUAUCAAAUCACUAUGUCACUCUUCAACAUCUUCAUCAUACAUUCAUCGUCUUCAUCAUCUUCAUGUGAAAAAAAAUCGGAAAAAAAAGAAGAAAAAGAAAUUACAAAAUUAAAAAAAAAAACAUAAUAAGUAAUUACAAUUGCAUAGAAACAACAACAACGACGUAAAAAUGCAGAUGAAGCUAUAGAUCCAUCACAAUAAACCUACCAUAGAUUCCAAAACGUCAACAACAAUUUUUGGUAUUUUUUCUUGAAAUUAAAUUUAUUUAUUUCAAUUUGAUUGCUUAAAGUUACAAAACAUUGUUUGAAAUCGCAAAAAAAUGUUACUUUGUUCAUGAAUGUCUUAAAGUUAUGUUGUUUUGGUUUUGGAUCGCAUGGGUUUUAACCGGGUCAUUAUGACCCGUCUGGAGGUAGAAGAUGAAGUAUUAAAAAAAAUUAAAAAAAACAUCUUUCAACAUUAUGGGAAUCGAACUUGUGACCAACCAUUUAAAAAUGUUUGCCUUAACCAACCAACUAACCACUAUGUUUUGGAAAAUUAGGCGUUUUGAUUUUAUUUAAUGGGUUUUAAAUUAUAUUGAAUGAACAUAUAAUUAUCAUUAAUUUCAUGCUUUAGAAAUUUCAAUACUACUCCUUUUUAUAAGAUACAAAUGUAGAAAAAUUCACCGACCAAGAAAAUCAAUUUUUCUACUGUACUACCGGAAAUUAUAUAAAAAACAAUUAUAUUGAUAAUUUUUUUUUGUUGAUAAUAUUAUUAAACUUUUAAAGAUAUCAAAGAAAAAUCAUAAGCAAUAAUUUAAUGUUUUUACUAAUAAAAAUUCUUUUAUGUGUAAAUAAUAUAUAUUGUUUUUCUUAUUAUUUAUGUCAUAAUAUAUUGUUUUUCUUAUAAUUAAUAGGAAAUUGACCAUAAAGUCUAUCAAAACAGUGACACUAAGAGCACGACUGAAGACAAUUUUGAAAAAUUUAUGAUACAUAAAAAUUCAAAAUAAAAUCACUUCUCUAACCGUACCCACUAAAGUAAAGUCAUAGCCCUUAUGUUUUAAAAAUUGGACAUGUCAUUAACACAGCAAGGGUAUUGAACUAAAUUAAAUCAAUUGACUUAGUUGAAUAGUUGGUCUCUAUAAAAAAAUUGUAGGUUCUUGUUAAUCGAUGUCUUUAGGGUAAUAGUUAAAGAAUUUACAAAUAAAUUUUUUUCUUAAAAAUAUUUAAUAAAAAACAUUUAUUAAUGUUGAUAUUUUGAAAGAGUCAUGAGUUUUCAAAAUAAAUAAAUUUCUUUUGGAGAUAUUUUAAAAAUAAUAAUGAAAUAUUAAAGUUUUAUCUUCGAUGUAAGUUGAUCUGACAAACUAUCACAUUUGAAACCUAGUCAACAUGGAAGGACAUUGAUUUGACGAUCAAAACGAACCAAAUCGACUAACGAUAUCAAAUAUAAUCAAUCAGACCGUUGAGUAUGACCUUAUUAGAAUAAGAACGAAGUAGGAACUGGGAUUUUGAAAAUCAGAAUCUUCGGUGUAAGUCGGUCUUACAAACUAUCACAUUUGAAACCUAGUCAACAUGGAAGGACAUUGCUCCAACGAUCAAAACGGACCAAAUCGACUUAACGAUGUCAAAUAUAAUCAAUCAGACCGUUGAAUAUGACCUUAUUGAAAUAAGAACGAAGCACGAACUGAAAUUUUGGAAAUCAGAAUCUUUGAUGUAAAUCAAUAUGACCAACUAUCACAUUAGAAACCUAGUCAACUAGGAAGUACGCUUGUCCGAUGACUGAAAAGAGUCUAGGUCACAAACGAAAAACAAAUAUAAUCAAUCAGACAUUUGAAUAUGACCUUAAUAGAGUAAGAAGGAAGUAGGAAUUUGAAAUUUGCAGAUCGAAAUCUAAUUGGUAAGUCGAUCUGACAAACUAUCUCUUUAGAAACCUAGUCAAUCGAGAAGUACACUUGUCCAACGACUGAAAAGGGUCUAGGUCACAAACAGAAACAAAUAUAAUUAACCAGACCGUUUAAUUAGAUUAACUUUUUUCUAUAAAGAUAUAGGAGUACAAAUAAAUAUCAGAUCGACAAAAUAUUUUAUUUAAUCUUUUUAUUAACCAGACUGUUUAAUAAUUUUUAUUUUUAAAAUCAAUAUUUUAUUUCAAAUAAAUAUCUCAACAAACUAUUGAUCUUAUCCAUAGUAAUAUCUCAACCAGACCGUUUAUGUAAUACUUUCAAUCCUAUCCAUUAAAUAUUUCACUCCAUUUGUUUAAUAAUUUUUGGUUUAAUGAAUGAACGGUUACUUCAAUUUUAACAUUAUUUGUUUCAAUAAAUUUAGUUUUAUAUUUAUUUUUGAAUUUAGAAAUUUUCAAUAAGUAGUAGUAUAAAUAUAUAAUAUAUUUCACCCAAUUAAUAUAACAAGUACUUGAUAUAGUGGUUAGUUUUUCAAGGAUUUACUUUUAAGUACACGGUUCGAAACCUUGAGCCUUCAAUAUUUUCAAAUUUUGAGUAUUUUUUUUCUAUAAAAGUCAAAGAUGUUCCAAAGUAAUUGCGCAUUUAUUUUGGUAUUUACUAUUAUCAAUAGGCAUACCAAAUCUAAUAAAUGCUUAAUUAUGUCUAUAAUGAAAGAAAUCCACAUGUUAACUUUUUUAUCAUGAUUUUUUCUUAGCUUUCCUUAAAAAAAUUUGCUACCGUAUUAAUUGGAAAGGAAUUGGAAAACAUGUCAAUUGCAAAACAAAAAUAAAAAUAAAGAGAGCAGGGAUCGAGUCCGCGACCAAAAUGUUUUGAAAAUUUGCUAAACCACUACAAUGCAUACAAUCCAUUUGUUCCUUUUUUCGCUCGUUUCUAUUUGUAAUAAAAAGUCCGAUUAAAAAAAAAGUGGAAGUCGUCUUCAACCUCCAACCGGGUCGUCUGAACCCGAUUCAGACCAUUGGCAUCCGAAAUUGAACCCGAUGAUUUGUACUUAUUUUCAAGGUCGAAAAUGAUGAUUAUAAUUCGUUUUCAAUACUCUUCUAAUUCUCCUCUUCCUUCCUAUCUAUUUAAAUCACAAAAUCAGGUGUUUGGAAAAAAUGUUGUGUUGUUCAAACAACAUUUAAACCAUCGUCGGAUUACUGCUGUUAUCGUCGCGUUCAUCCUAUCUUUGCGGCCUAUGUUGCUGAAUAUUACGACAUAGAUCUGGAAACUUUAAUAACACAAAUCAUGACAUUUUAAUUUUUGGAGGUGAAUUUGAGUAGCUAUUUUGUUUUUUGUUCAAUAAAGAAGAUGAUGAAGGUAUGAACAUGGUGAUGAUGUUCAUAAUCUUCCUGGGUUUAUUUAUUUUUAAUAAUGAAAUAUUUUUUUAUAAAAAGGAUUAUCUUAAAAAGGUUUAUUUAAAUAUUUUUUGAAAUAGAAGGAAGAAAAAUUCAAAAAGGAGAAAAGAAAUAAAUAUAGUGUGAAAGGCAACACAAUAAUACUAGUGAAAUGCUUAAUCUGAUGAUUUAAAAAAUCUAAAGGCUAAAAUACAAUUAAAUUUGACUGAAGGUACACAAUACAUACCAUGCAUCCGCCAGUAUAACAUGGCAUAACUAACACACGUGGCGUGUUCUUAUUAGCUGUAGGGUUACUUCACCGAAAAAGUCAUUUUGACAACUUCACCGUAGAAUUUCCCUAAUAAAUAAGUACUCUAAGAACACAUGUUACCACUUUUCUAAAUUUAAUAAUAAAAAUAACAAAAAUAAUACUUAUAUAUUGUAAGUAAAAGCAUAACUUAAACAUAAAUAAAAAUAGAUGAUAAAUAUUUUAAAAGUUUGAACUUGAUGAAACUUUAAGUAGUCAAAUUUAUUCAUAAUUGACUAUAUACUAAAAUAUUCUAGCAUUUUUUUCAACGCGAACCACUAAAUUAUUUGCAAGAAAAAAUCAUCGACUUUGUACCAAAGUCUUCUUGCCUUGACAAUUUUUAUUACCAGAAAUAUCUCUCUUUCUCUCUAUAGUUCUUGUUAUAUCUCUUUCGAUCAACGAACUUGUUUGGAUAGAUAAAUGUAUUUUGAAGGUAGCUAAAUUUAUUAAAAAUGUAUAUAUACUUUUUUUUGUUAGGAAGUAUAUAUACUUUUGGGUAGUCAAAGAUACCUCGUGAUUAUUAAAGGCUACAACCUUGAUUGUAAUUGAGCAAAACAAUGGUCACUCAGAAAAGUGAAUGCUUUAUAUAAAUGAUGGUACGACAAAUAUUGCGGUUAUGUGGCCAUGAUGUUGUAGAGAUUAUGUCAUUAUCUAAGUGAUCAUAUGCGAAUAUAUUUUAUAUAGAUAGCAAGGCAGUGAAAGAGAGAAUUGUGUUACAUGUGAAGUGAUUUUUCCUAUCUUAGAACUCUAUUUGGAAUAAGUGUAUCUUUGUAUUCAACUUCUAGUUUGAAGGUGCUUAUGAGUUUAUGCUUUCUUCCGAUUUUGUGUUGUAUAUUAAACAUUUUAAUUUUAUGAUAUGGUUAUAAUGUAGAUUAGGGACCAACUUGUGAUUGGUUUGAGAUUUGAGUGGUAAGGAACUCGAGUACUUUAAACAAGUGGUCAGAAGUUUGAUUUACGACUCUUGUAUUUGAAGAAAAUCUAAUUGGAAGAGAAGAAUUUACCUUGUAUGUUCAAUAGGCUUUGCGGCGAGAUCAAUCAUGACUAAGCGGCAAUGAAUAUAUCAUAUCUAUAACAUGAAUAUAAAAAAAAAAAUAUAAAUCCGAGAUCAUAUAUUUGGGAAAAUAGUUAACUUUCAUUGAAUGACAAUAUAAAACUUGUAAUAAAAUAAUAACAAUUGCUCUUUUCAAAAUAAUAAUAAUAAUAAAAAUAAAAAUAAUAACAAAACCAUAAAAAAAUUCUAAAAUGUGUGAAAUCAGGAUUUGAGCAGGAAAAUUUUAAAUUUUUUACAAAAUUAAAUUUAACAUAUUGUUUUGGUGAAUUUAAAUAAAAAGAAUAGUAAAAAGGUGGCACUUUGAUUUUUUAAAUAAAUAGAACAGUGAAAAAAACUUUACUGUAACAAAUAUAUUAAAGUCAAUCAAAACUUUAAAGGAUUUUUUUCUCAAACAAAAAAUUAAAGGAAUCAAACAUAUAACCAAUAAAAAGAAAGAUAGUAAUAGAGUAAAAAGUGUAAAAAAAAAGCCUAUUUUUCCAUAUAUAGACCUUGUUGGAAAGUUAAAAGAACAAAAAAAGCCUAGGAGAAUUAAUGGUUUAGACUAACGAAUGGGUUAUGGUCGGGUCUAAACAUGACCCCUAAUUCUGGGUUCUAGAAAUAUGGCCUCUAAUAGUAAGUAUUUUAAAUCAAUAAAUACCAAGAAAUAAUAGAUUGUUUAUUAUUUAUUGGUAUUGGUAUUUAUCAAUAAAUACCAAUAUAAAUAAUAGUAAGUAUACUGUUUUUUGAGUACACAAUUAAAAAUCAAUAAAUAAUAGAUUAUUGGAAUACCUCAUACUAUUAAAAAGAAUAAGUGAGUUUAACUCUUAGAAAAAGUGCUAAAAUCUAAGGUUAUGGGACCUUGAUUAAUGACUUGUGUAAAAUAUGACGUACAAGAGAUGCCUUUCGGCUGCUACGAAAAAUGGAAUGGCAAGUGGUUCCUAACAUCGUAAUCUAUAACAUGAUCAUUGAUAGUUCAUUUAAAGACGGACUUCUAAUUCAGGCACGACGUUUAAAUUCCAAGAUUGUUGUCUCUUUGAUGAAAUGCAUGUAAAAAUCAGCUUUCUAAUAUUGUAACUUAUAGUUCUCUUAUCAAUGGUUUGUGCAAAUCUGGGAGGAUCUCUUGUGCAUAGGAACUUUUUGGUACAAUCAGUGAUGACGGUCCAACACAAUGUUAUCACUUACAAUAGAUAAAUGCUUUCUGCAAAAUCCUAAAUAUUGACAUGGGAAUUUCCUUAUUUGUACUAAUGUUUGAAAGGGGAUUGACUCGUACAGUUUUGACUUGUAACAUCUUGAUUAAAUAGGUAUUGCAAGAGUUAAGAGGAUUGAUGAAGCCAUUAACCUCUUAAGUGAAAUGUAUAGCAAAAAUUGGGUUCCUGAUUCUGUAACUUAUAAUUCUCUUAUUGAUGGCUUGUCUAAAUCUAGGAUUAUAAGUUACAAUAUGUGUUCCUGUUGUGAAUCCCAAUUAAAACUCACACAAAUGAAAUAAACAAUGAUGUGUGGAGCAAGAGAUAGUGGUAAUCUAUGAGAACAAAUGGUUUUCAAGCAACAACAACAAAACAGCCCUAGACUAGUGUAUAGCAAAAUCACAUAUAUAGAUAACAAAGCAUAAACAAGAUAAGUAAGAAAGGAAGAACAAAACACCAAGAAGAUUGUUGACUCAGUUCAGCCAAUGUGGCCUAAUCUGGGGGAGAGAGCAGCUCUCCAAUCCAAUAUGAGAAAGUGUUACAAAGGGUUACAAGAAACUCUAGCCUUCAAGCUUUACACAUGAACAAACCAUAGAUUCUACCCUUUGGUGUUUCCCCACUCUCACAAUAUGAACCCUAAAGAGAAGUCACUAGAGGAAGCUUUAGAUCCUUCCAACUAAUGAACUCCUCCACUACCCAAGGUGAUUACAAUGUUUUUCCCAACCCAAGAGACACUCUCAACAAAGACACUCAACCCAUUGGUUCCCUCCUUUGUUAUCCAAGUUCUCUUAGACACGAUUUGCAUCUGACCCAAGAUUGACCAGUCCUUAUCAGAGAUACUUAACGAGCAAGUUUCUGAAUCGUGUCACGAUUUCCCAAAAUCGUGUCACGAUUUGGCGUCCUGCAAACUGGCUCACGGCACCUCGAAAUCGUGUCACGAUGCCAAAAUCGUGUCACGAUUUCUCUGUUCUUCCAGACCACAAAUUUGAAGCCAAUAUCAACAGUUCCUGAUGUGCUGCUUAUCAAUUGAUUCUAGGUUUUCUUAUGUAGUGAGUGAGUGAAUGGAGUUGACUCAUACUCUACAAUGACGUGAGUUUAAUUUUCAUUGUCGAUGUUAGGAUUUUGUUGAUGAAUAAUAUGUAAGUAAGAAAUUGACUCAUACUUUAUAAUGGUGUGAGUUUAACUUUCAUUGUGAAUGUUAAUAUUUUCUUGAUAAGUUGAUAGUAUGCAAGUACAUUUUGAAGGAAAAAAAUUACUAAUAUUAGUGUAACAUCUAAAUUUCAGUAAUUUUUUUUACGAAAGGCAUCAUUGAAUUUAAUUUGCUAAAUGAUAAUGAAAGAUCCAGGCAAAUAAAUUAUAAUGAUGGAUAAUGGCCCUAUUUAUCCCCUAACAAUUUUUUUUUUCUUUCAAAAAAGCCAAAUAUUUUAUUAAAAUAUGAGUCUAACACACACCUAAGAACUUAUUGCUUUUCUGAUAAAUUGCUUAGCCUCCUUUGCUGAUAAACCUUGGGUGAAUGAAUAGGAGGGUGAAUAUUUUUUGGAAGUUACUUUUUCCAUCUUUUGAGUUUCUCGUUUGCCCUAUUCGGAUUUUAAAAUCCAAAAUAUUUUAACGUAUUUUGGAGAAUUUUAUAAAGUGUUUAUGCUCAGAACUACAUAGAAAACGAAAAACUGAAUAAGAUGAGAAAAGAAGGUCUCAUAGUUUUUAGACAUUUCACUGAUAAACUAUAGAUGAAUACAAACCACUUAACCACAUCGUGCAAUUAAGUAAAAAUAAUAAACCCUAUAAUGUGCCUUAAGAAUGGUUAAGGAGUACAAUUUAAUAAUACAUUUUUCAGAGAUUAAUUUCCUUUUGGUGUAUAAUAUAGUUUUGAAUUGAUGCAGGAAGAUAACCCAAUUUUACAGAGAUUAAGAAAAUCUAUAUAUGGAGUUAAACUCACAAUGAAAGUUAAUCUUUGAAGAAAAUGUAAAAUUAAACUCCAUAAAAUUGGUCACUGAAUCUAUAUAUGGAGUUUUGACCAAUUUUGGAGAAGGAUUACAAAAUUCAAUCCAAGCAGUUAGUUUUUACAAAAAUGGAUUCAAAAACAUCAAAUAAUAUAUGGAGUUUACAUUAGAUCACUACUUAAAAAUGAUUAGUAUUGUUACUUUGUUCAAAUGAUUUCUACUAAUAUGGAGUUUUUACAUUAUUAGUGAAAUACAUUCUGAACAAUACAAUAUGGAGUUUUUACAUUAUUUGAUGUUUUUGAAUCCAUUUUUGUAAAUAUGGAGUAGUGAUUAAAAUGAUCACUACUCCAUAUUAGCAGUUAGUUUUUUUGAACCAUAAAUAUUAGUAUUGUUCAGAGUGUAUUUCAUAUGGAAAUCAAACCCUCCACCUCCUCAUCUCUUCAGUCCUUUAACUACCCACCCCACAUUGCCAACCUUAUUGAACAAUUAACUAGUAAAUAAUUUUUUGAUAAAACAAAUGAACAGUUUAGUAUUUAACACUUCUAACAUGCAAAGAGUACCGGAAAAAAUAUCCGAAUGAAUUCAUAAGCAAUUCCCCAACUCACAAUUAGAAACUUAAAUCCUUAUUCUAUCACUUAACACGUAUCAACGAGCAACACGCAAAAAAAUAGUGUUACCCUAAGCUAGCCCAUACAAUAUUACAUUACAUAAAAGGUUACAAUCUACAAAACUAAUGCAGCAACCCUUUUCAAUGAUUCAGAUGCCUUGUGAACAUCGGACUCUGAAUGCCCUGCAGAAACAAACAAUCUUAUUCCUACAGGCAAACGGCACUUGUCUAAUGUUGAUCUUCGAGAAGUCGCCACAAAUACAGAAUCUUCUUUCAAAACCUGUGAAUACAGAACAAUAAAUACCAGCAAAACCGAAAGUAAGAAAUAAACAUUGUCACAACAAUUCUUACACGUUCGGCAAUAUUUUCAAGCAGGCGUAGGUCAUCAUUCAAAGAACCCGUUGACUUCUUUAUUCUCAAAUAAACAAUUGGUGACUCUGGAUGACUCACAAUCGUGAAGCCUGGUAUUUCCAACAACCCUGCAGUAGCCAAUGCAUCUCAUAUAAAAGUUCUCAACAAAACAAUAAAAUGAAAUAAUAGACACUACAAUACAAUUCCAUUUAUGAAAGUAGCAGCGGUGAUAUCAAAGCCUACCUUUCCAUAACACAGCAAUGUUGUUCUUCAACUUUGUUAAUAUAUUGGGAUUUUCGUCAAGGACAUCAAUAGCUGUAAUUGCAGCGCUUGCAAGAUAUGGAGGCAAAGAAGCAGAAAAGACGUAGCCAGAGCUGCUCAAUCGCUGUAAGAGUUGAAAACACAGACAUUAGCGGAGGGAAAAUGAACGAGAAAUAAUAGCAUGAUCAACCAAUCACUUCGCCUUGAAAAUAAAUUCUUAAUUUCAGUACACUUGGAAAUCUAAGUUGGUUUAUGAAUCAGUAUUACAAAUGACACUACCAUACCUGGUGAUCUAUAACUCUUGCACUUCCGGUGCAGAAUCCUCCUUCUGUGGCCAAUGCAUGUCCCAUAGCAGCAGUUAUAAGAUCUAACUUCUCAACCUGCAGCACACGACCACAAUCACCAACAGCAGUAGAAAUUUGAAUGCAUUAACGGUGAAUCUGGUGGGACUGUAUGCACCCACACCCAAACGGAGAUUUUCGGUACAUACUGGAACUCCGUAGUGUUCAGUGAGACCUCUUCCAGAACUUCCAAGCACACCAAAUGAGUUGCUCUCAUCCAGUAAAAUACGAAACCGAUAUUUUUCCUUCAAUUUAAUGAUAUCAUCUAAGGGUGCUAUUUGACCAGAAUUCUGAAAUUUUUAAAAGUAAACAUAUGUUAACAAAUAAUGAUCAAGCAAUUUUAGUUUUCACUUAAAUGCUAGUAUGAAAACUAGUGAAAGAAUAUCUACUAUAAGUCAGAAUAGUUGACAAAACCAGAGCAAAUAGCAAUAGUGUUUUAAAGAACGACAUUGCAAUAGGCACCAGUCUAACAGCAACACCAUAUGCUCACAAUUUGUGUUUUUAAUACUUCGUUUAUAUCUUCAAUUUGCAUCUGUUUAUUAAUUACCAUACUAUCUCACUAGAAAUAGUAGUUCAUAUAACAACUUGCCAAUACUUCAAAUUGCAAGAAACGGGUAAUUCAUUCAACUGAAGGCUGUGAGCACUCCACUCGAAACACGAUAUAGAAGUGCAAAGCUAAUAAAAAUACGCUUCAACAAAAAUAAAAAUAUAACGCUAAUAUAGAAGUGCAAAGCUAAUAAAAAUAUAGAAGUGCACGGCUAAUAUACACAACAUCUACCUGGUAGAGAGCUUCGACAACAAUAUAACGCCUCAAAUUCUUGGUGUGCUUAUACUUAGAAGUAAGCUUCUCUAAAGUUUCUUCUAAAGAAUCCAUGUCAUUGUGCUUAAAAUACACGACAGUGCUUCUAGAAAGAUAAAGGCCAUUCUGUAUUCCCCAGUGGACUCCUUCAUCCCUGUUAAAAAAUACAAAAUUAUAUAUGAAACUAGAGCCUACUUGAAAUAUCACAGUUAUAUAAAGUGGAUGAAAAAAGAAUUAAGUUCAUUCUUCACACCAUUGUAAUAAAAAAAGUAAAGAUGGUAAUAAAACCAUCCAAAUAGUUCUAUAUAUGUGGUGUAUGGUUAUCAAUGCCCAAUAUAAAUGUCAUCAGACAAAAAAAUUGAACAAAAAUGGAUAGUAGAUGCUUAAAGUUAUGCAUACUUACGCCACAAUUAUAUCUCCUUUUUUAGAAAAAGCAGGAAUAGCACUGAACAUGGUGGAAAGUCCAUAAGAGUAUAGAAUUGAAUCAGGCGUUCCUAAAAAUUUUGCUAUUCUUGCUUCACAGUCAAGAUGUACAUCUGCACAGGGAAAAGUAUCAUAAGAGAACAUGCAUUUCCUCAAAAACAAACUUUAAUAUUAAAGCCUUACCAAUUGUUCCAUAAAAUCCACGGGGGCCACAUGAACCAACACCAUAUUUCUCUAAAGCAGAAGUGCAUGAGUCCUACAAUAUAAAGUAAAUAUAGAUUCAGUGUACUGAAGCACUGGUCAAGAAAAAGAAUUUAUUGAUAUGGGAUCAUGUCCUUACAAGUAACUUUUGAUGACCUAUAAGCCCAAGAUAGUUUGCUGAAGCAAAAUUGAUAACUUCUUUACCAUUAACUAUGGUAUGUGGGCCAGCAGCACUGCAUAAGAAAUUUAUCGCAAUCAGUAUUUUAAAAAAUGGAUAAUUGGCUGUUUUUUCACAAUACUGUUUAACUUACAUAUUAUGAGCUUAUCAUGUCAUUUAUCUGUCUAGAGUGCAAACUGUAAUCCUAAUGUCUCAUUUAUGUAUCAAUUAAGAUCAUUACAAAAACUUGUCAAGAGAAUAUACUUCAACCAAAACUACUUCUAGUGAACUAUACCAGUCUCUCUCUAUUAUCACAAUCUUACAUGAACCUUCCUAAUUUUAACUUCAAUAAAACGAACAGCUUCCCUAUAUGCUAUGAUAAAAGUUAGCAAUGAGGAAAAUGUAUGACAUACAAGGGAGACAUCUGAAAACGUAUGAAAUCACAUGAGAACUUUUAAUCUACACUAAUUUUCUUUAUCGCAAGAUAAGAAGAAAAAUGAUUUAGAAUCUAAAGGGUGGUCUUGUCCAGUGCAUAAGACUGCCACUGUAGUGGGGUCCAAGUAGGGUCUGAACUGACAACCUUAACCUUGCUACUAUGACUACCAUGUCACAAGGUGGAAAACCUACCAAUAUGCUAGGGCUUAUCCUAAAAAAAGUUCAUGAGUUUAAGUCAAAUAAAUGUAACCAUGGCAGUGAUGUUGACAAGUGCAAAACAUAAGAUUAUUUCAGGGAAGGAACGCAGACAAUAAAGCACACAAGUAACAAAUUUGAAAGUGUGCAAAACAUUUAAAAUGAUAAUAGAUGAGGAUGCUACCACAAAAGUAAAUGUAAUCACCUCUCCAGCACUGGUGGUUCAUAGUGCAUAUCUUUAUCAAGAGAAGGAAUAAGCGAUUGUGGAACCCAUUCAUCACAUAACUCGUCAAUUUCCUGCAGAAAUUAAGAAUAAAUUUAGAACAUGUCAAAAUAUAACACAAUGAAUCUCGAAUUAGAUUGUACAACACUACAACUAACAUGGAACACUAUGGUUAGAGUUCCACAUUAAUUUAAAACCAAAAAAGUUAGACGACAACCAACUGUUUUGAUCAUGAAUGAUGGGUCGACAGACAAAGGCAUUCGUUCUACUACUUUUUGGUGAACAAGCGACUGUAAGGGAACAAUUUUCCUAUUUUCAUUGGACACUUCUGACUUCUAAAAAAAAAAAAUAUGUAUUUGAAGAUGCUAGAUGAUGAAAUCAAAUUUGUAUCUGAGGAGUAUCAAGUAUGCAGUCGACAUGGUUAUGAAUACUGCUGAAAAUUUCAAGGUAGCAAGGGAAAUGUAAUCAUAAAGGGAAAUGUAAUCAUAUGCUGAAAUAUCUAAAAAGACUAACGGUUCAUCAAGUUACCGUAAAGGGGGGAAGAAGGAUAACCACGGACAUAUACUCUAGAACAAUGCUUAUUACCAUGUUGAAGAAGUCCAAAUAUGGGAGGAAUUUGACCAGACCUAUUAUGACUAGAUUUGUUACUACUAAUUUGGUUAUAGUUUGUAUCAGUGAUCUAAAAGCAUCAUUGAGAAGUAUGUUUAGGUCAAGGUCAAAUGAGUGAAAAUCAAGUAGGUUCGGAUCUUGGCAAGAGGGAAGAAAAGUAGCAAACAUUGUUUUAGAAGGUUUGAUUCGGAAGAAUGUAAUCAUAUCAUAUGCCUCAAGUUAGCUGUAGUUUCAUGGAUGUUAUAUUCUCCAUGAUAAUGGAGAUGAUCUUCUUGUAGGAUUGGACAUUUGAAUGACGAAUGAAUCAGCUCUAGUUUUUAUUUUGAAAUUUUUUAACAUUAGGAAUUCAUGUAUGAUUUGGUAUUUAUGUUGUUUGAUCUGGUGUUAUCAUUGGAGCGCUACAACGCUGAAGCGGGGCAUAGCAGCCAAUGAACAUCACUGCACCUUCCAUAUUGUUGUGGUUGUGUGCAUCAAUAAUAGCAGGAAAUGCCACCACCCCAUGAGUACCCAGGAAAAAUAUCCACAGAACAGUCGGAAAUUAAUUUGGGCUUUUGUGGGGGUAUUUUAGGGAUAUUGAGUUAAAACACUCAAGAGCAUGAGUUGCAUUAAAGUUAAGGCUUUGUUCCCAGUCUCUUUUGUCAAAACCUGAAAACAUCAAAAUGUUAGGGCAUUUUUCCCGAUUACUCCAGAAAUUUUAUGCGUCUCUCUCCGGCGAUUCUCUUUCUAGUUAUGUCCUCUCUCUGUAGAUUCUCUCUUGAACUUCUCUUUGCAUCUCCAGUGAUUCUGUCUCACGUGCAUUUGAGUAUAUUUUAGUGCUUCUGUCUCUCUGCAUCUCUGAAGAUUACUGGCAAGAACUGCUGCCUGUGUCAUUCCUAGGCAAGAAACUUUUAUUUGAAUUUUAAUGUUUAGACAAUUUAGUUACUUUAACCCUUAGAGGAUUAAACUUCUUGGUUAGUGAUUAGUGGUUACCACAAUUUUUGGUAUUUUCUAUGACUUUUUUACUGUUAAAUAUGAAUUUCAAGUAAUUUUUAUCAUUUUUUAGAAUCACUAUUUUGAGUAACUUUUUUUACAAGUCUAGGGGUUGAGUCUACAGAGGCUUCACAAAUUACCUAAAUUCUUGAAUAAUACAACCUUGGUAUAGAUUAUAGACAAUCACCCAAAAGGCAAGUCCCAAAUGCAUCAUGAAGAUAGAUGCUAUUAAGUCACCGACCAUGAAGCGACAGUGAUUACUUUCAAACUUCACAAAUUGAAAUGCUUCAUUUAUUGAUUCUUAAAACUUCAAGGCAAAAGCAUACAAAAUAUAAAUGCAAGAGUUUGUUCCUAUUUCCAAGUAAGCAACAGAAAAAAUGCAUAUGUUCAGUAAUAAAAGCAUGGCAAAGUCCACAAGUGAGGAGCAUAUUUCCAUCCAUCGAAAAGCUAAUGAUUAAUCAGAUUUGUAAGUUCUAAAACCUCAGAAAGAAUAUUUAGAAAUGCCCCAUGUUAGAUCCAUAGAAUUACUAAAAACUAUAACAGAUAAGCGUAUAUCACUCUAUUUAGAUAUAAGUGUUUGGAUAAAUUCUAAAACCUAAACAUUAAUAGAAACCACUUUUGAACUGCACAACAUACUCAUACAAACUCCACACACACAAAUAAAUUAGAGACAAAUCCUAUUAGCAUUUCAAUGACAUAAUAAACCAAUAAAGUCACUUUACCUUUAAAAAUAAAAUCCUAUUAAUAUACCAAAUGCCAACUUUAUUUUCAAAUUAUAAAUUUUAGACAGCUCUACAUAGCUAACACACAUUCAUAAAAUAACUAAAAAAAUCUAAUACAUAAUAACAACAACCAAGUCUUAUCCCACUAAGUAGGGUUGACUACAUGGAUCAAACGAUGCCACAAUGUUUUGUCAUAAAUCAUAUCUCUGUCCAACUCAUAUAUCUCUAAGUCUUCCUUUGCCUCUUGCGACUUAACUACCCUCCAUCUGAUCUAUAUUACAGUAUAGUGAAAAAACUAGAGUUAGAUGAUAGGUUAACUAGAGUUAACAAGUUGGUUAGGUAAUUAGGGAGUUAGUUACUCCAACUCACUCCCAUAUAUAACUCACUCUGUUGUAUUCAUUCUCUUUUAUCAAUCUAUUCAUUCCACUAUGGAUCUCUAUGAUUAUCUCCCACGUGAAUACUCUUAUACUAGCUUUUUUGCUACUCACUAUGAUCUUUAUCCCUAUGAAUCCAUGAUUCAUAACAAUCUACUCUACAGCAACAACUACCAAUCCUUAUCCCACUAAAUGGGGUCGGCUACAUGGAUCAAAUUACACCACAAUGUUCUAUUGCAACUCUCUAAUGUUUUCAUUCAUUCAUAACCAUAUCUCGUCUAGUCUUACCAAAAAUUGUGCAUAGACGAGAAAUCAAAAUAUAUACACACACGCUCAAAAAGAUAGCAUCAUACCUUGUUUGUCAAGGGUCUUUUAGGAGGCUUGUAACUUUUCUGAGAAAGCAAGAAAAGUAUGACCACCAAGAGAAAAACUUCAAUAAAUAAAUGUCCUGCAAACAUAAGAUAAAAAAAAAAUCAAAUUAAUUAAUCAAUUAAUCAUCCAUCUAUAAAGUAAAAAGUAAAAGAUAAUUAAGUCCAUAACAAGAAAUAUUACCACCAAAAUUAUAUCCAAAAACUAUAGCUCUUGCAGAAGGUGCAUCUAAAGCAUAUGUAACCCAAUUUAAUGUAGUGUUCACGAAAUUAACAGCAGCUGAAGCCAUCAUUAGCUUAAUAUAUCAAUCAAAAUAUCAAUGAAUCCUUCAAUUUCACUCAUGCAUGUGAGUUUUCCACUAUUGAAAUUCUUAAAUCAUGAAAAGUUUAAAUCCUGCAAAGUAUAAGAAAAUCAAAUAUAAGCAUUCCAAUUAACAAAUGGAAUCGAAAAAUUUGAUUUUGAAUAAGAAUCUAAGGAAUUGAAUUGAUGAAUCGAAACGACGUGACCUACCUUAUGAUUGAGAGUGAAACGACGAGAGCUUGAUUCCAUGGGAGAUUCAGAAAUGAUAGGAAGAGAAAAAGAAGAGAAAAGAAGAGAAAGAGAAAACAAAUAUUUUAUUUUAACGGUUAUGAUGGUGCCACGUCAGAUCUCGUUAGCGCUAACUAAACAGUUGUCAUUAGGCCUGUGCAAAAUAACCGGUUUGAGUAGUAAAUCCAUAACCAUACCCGUAACCAUUCUAAAAUAACAACAAAUUUUUAACCAAAUAUCAACCAAACCCAUUUAAAAUGGAUCGGUUAUAAACCAUUGUUAACCAGUUAUCCCUAAAAAGAAAAAGCCCAACCAGUACCAAUUUUUCUGCUUUCCAAUAGAGAAAUGAUAUUUGAACAUCCAUUUUGUGACAACUUUUGUUACAACUUUCUCUCUCAUAUUUACAUUAUUUUUUACUUUAUCUCUCUAUUGCUUUGAUUUUCGUACAAAUACCUAUUCUUUCUUUAUAAAUUAUGGUUGUCCCCAUAAGUUGUCAAUUAAAGGAUGUUCAAAUAACACUCCUCUUUCCAAUAAUACACCAGUAGAAAACGCUUUCAACUCACUCCGAUGACGUGUGCACGGCGGUUCCAUAGACGGAGAUGAAAACGCAAGAGGAGGAAGAGAAAAUCUAGAUGCAGAUCUAGCCAAUACAACUUGUCAUGAUGCGGCAUCUGUCUUUCUAUCUGGAUUCACUUCUGCUUGGCUGCUUGUUUCUUUUCCUUAUUUGCUUUCAUUUUAGGUGAGUUAUUGCAUGGUCCAAUUGUAAAAUUUUCCUAUGUUAGGCUCAUAUAUCUUUACCGGCUGGAACCUGUAAUUUCCUUAUUUAGUGGUAUCUAACUAGUUAUGUACAUCAAUGUUUUUUUUUUACACAAAUAUCAACAAAUAAAAAAUGGAACAAAAUUGCUCUUUUAGAAGGAAAAUAUAGCGUCAGUUUUCAAACUAAAUAAUUCUUUGUCAAUAAUAUAUAUUUAUAUAAACUGAAAAAAAAAUUACUUUUUUUUUUCUCGCUAAGACAUAAAAUCCACAUAAAUUAAACACCAUGAGUUUAGUUCAGUUGGUAGGGAUAUUGCAUUUUAUACCAGGGGUCGGGGGGGUUCGAACCCCGGACACUCUAUUUCUCCACAAUUAAAUUGUGUGAGCUCUAGCCAUUAGGCUACUUGACAAAAAAAAAAUCCACAUAAAUUAGUUAUACAUCCCUAAAAAUAUAGUGAAUUUUAAUUUCUAAAAGACAACAAAAUAUUUUUAUCCUAACAAAAAGUUUUUUGUUUUGUUUUUAGUUCAAUUUAUGUUCAUAUUAAUGUCAAGAUUAUCACUCUUUUAUGUUCAAGAUGUAUCCACGUAUGUCUAUUUAUUAUGUUCAACAUUUGUAUGUCCGUAUUAUGCUAAAGAAAUGUCAAACACGUGUCAAGAUUAUAUUUAUGAAGGACAAAUAAACAAAACGAUUUUUUUUUUAGAAUGAAAAUAUUUUGUUUUAUUUUUUUAGAAUAGAAUCAAAAUUGCUUAUAUUUUUAGAGACAAAAAACUUAUUUAACCCUUAAUAAUAUUUAUGAAAGACACCUAGAAAAAUAUUUAUGAAAGAUACAACAAACAAUAUUUUUUGUGUUAGCCCUUCAGUUCUUGGGGAAAGAGGGCUCUAAUAAUCCGAAGUUUAGACAAAUAUAAGUAAAGUCUGAUCUAAAAUUGUUGAUAUACGCAGAAAUCAAAUUUAAAUUCUUUUAUUAUUAUAAAUAAAAGAAUAACCACAAAUUCAAUUUACUUGAUUUUUGAGCCAAAAUGUGUUUUGAAAUUAAGGGCUCUAAACUUACUUGAUUUACUUGAUUCUAAAUGUGUUUUACUUGAUUUAGUCUUAUCUAAAUGUGUUUUACAAGAUUGCUCCUCUUCUCACAUUUAUAAUUGAAUAUAUGGUUAUUGAAAUGUGUUUUUGAGCCCUUGAGAGAAAAAAUCAAGUAAUUGAACUCAAGUGGUUAUAGCCCUAAUAAUCAAACUCAAGUAUUGGAAAAGUCAAAACACAUUUCAAACCACAAAUUCAAAUUGUUGAUAUACUUGAGUUCAAUUAUUUGGUUUUUUCUUUCAACCCAAAAUAAUAAAUAAAAGCUAACAGUGUUAGUAUUGGAAAAGUCAAAACACAUUUCAAUAACCACAAAUUCAAUUAUAAAUGUGCGAUUUCAAUUUUAUAUUUUUAAAUCCAUAUAAAGUGUGCGUUAAAACAAAUGCAUAUAAAUUUAGGUCGCUUAAUAUUUAAACCUUUCAAGUUACCUCUUUCAAAAACAACAACAAAAAAACCUUACAAGUUACCGGUCAACAAGACAAAGCAAUCCUAGCCAUCCCUAUUAAUUUAUAUUAAAUCAGUGGUUGAGUUUAGAUGAGCCUAAGAUGGGGAAAUUUUACAAUUUCCCCAUGCUAAACGUCGCCUUAUUUUUAACUUUCAAACAAACUUUGACUUUUCUUCUUUUGGAGUUGUUUCAUUUUGACAAUUCUUUUCAAGUUUUGAAAAACACAAGAAGUGAGUGUUAAUGAUCUUCUAGUUCUAGUAGAAUAGAUGAUCCUUCUAAAUUUGUCAUGCAAUUACUAAUUAUUUAUGUGGCACAUAAUCAGUGACAUAGCGAUGAUAGGGAAGAACAUGAUUGGAAAAGAAUAUGGAUACUCCACAAAUUUUAAAUAAAAUGACCAUUUUGCCCUUAAAAAAACUAGACAAGACUAUAAUACUUUUUCUUCUUAUUCCUUCUCCAAAACCAGUAUCUUUGUUCAUUUUCUUCGGCAAUCGCUGUUGUUUAAAGGAGGGGUAACAAUGGUACAAUCUAACAAACAAAUCAAAAUUCUUUCAAAAUUGAACCAACCCAUUUCUGAAUGUAAAAUAUACUCAAAAUGAAAGCAUAUCCAAUUCUGAAAACAAACAAACAAGUCUAAUCAAAAUUCUUGCAAGCGUCGAUGACAGAUCAUAGAAUGAUAUGGUGGGUUGUUGUUUUUUAAAAUGAUCGAAGCUUUAAUAGUUUCUUUCUAUUUCAUGUGAAGCUUUCAUGGUUAGGGCCACGUCACCGGAGGUGUUGCCUGUUGAUAGUUUGCGUUUUUGUUUCAUGUAAAGCUUCCAUGGUUAGGGACACGCAACUGGAGGUGUUCGUUGAAAGUUGUCGAAAAUGUGGAUAUGUGAUGAAGGCAACAACAAACAAUGAGUAAAGAGUAUAAUGAUGACUAGUGAGUUCAAAACGAAUUUCAAAGAGGAAACACACAUGGAGUACGAAAUUGAACUCAGAGGAGGAUGCGAUGGUUGUUUUGACAGGGAGACAGAAGUGGUUGUUGAUGGUGGAGACAAGUGAAGGCGGUAGUAUUUUAGUAAUUUUGCAUGUGUCUUGGAUCAUUAAGGGUAAAAUGGGCCCUACUUGCAUGGUCGUAUAUGAGGCAGGGCGAGGAGGGAGACCAUCCUAAUCCUCAAAAAAUACAAAUUUCAUAAACUAAAGAUAUACUUAGUAUGCUUGCAAAUCAUUUUUUCAAAGUAUCCGAAGAAAAUUCAUUAGUAUACCAUCUUGUAUCCAAUAUACACCGAUUAUUAGGAGCGAAUCAAACCUAAAGUUGGUGUAGAAACAUAUGCAUUGGAGUUCUAAACACAGCCUUCAUUGUUCAAGUGUUGUAGCAUUUUUCCCCAACAACAGUUUUUUAAACCAUGCAAUUGGGUAUUUGUUCUUAUUCUUUGAUAACCACUUUUCUAAUGAUGAACUUUUAUUUGAUUGAGAUUUUUUUUUAAUUCAAUUGUAAUGUUCGCUUAUUUUAAAAAAAAAUUAAACAAUUAAAAUAAGAGCUUAAUUCAAAGAUGAACAUGGGUUACAGUGACAUUCUAUAUUCUAAAAAUAAAAGAAAUGAUAUUUAUAUAACUAUUUUAGACUAUGUUCAAUAGGUUGUUGAAUGCAAACUUAAACAUGUUGAGACCAUUGAAGAUGGGUGUUGAAAGUGAGUGGAAAGUUGAUGUGGAUGAAAGAGGUGAUGAAUGCAUUAAACAUGUUGAACUCUCUCCCGUCAGGCCACGUGGCGCAAUCCGGUUCGUUCAAAAUGGCGCGUGAGAUGCACGCGUCGAGAGGGCGCGUGGGGAAGUUGUGCACGCGGAGAGAGAGAAAGAGAAAUGGAUAAGGGCAGAACACGUGGCGUGUUUCGAUUGGCUGGUUGAAUUUUUAUCAUCUUAAUAUUUUGGACUCAAUUAUUUCAUUGCAAAUAAUUUUUUUUUUUAUACCAAACUUCGUGAUUUUUUUCUCUAUAAAUUGAGACUUGGAUCAUUUGAUUUGGACACAGAAAAAAAAAACCAAGUUUUUCACUCUUUUAAUCUUAUUAUUAGCUUUCUAUUAGCUUUUCUUUUGAAGUUUUAGUCUCUAUUUAGGGAAAUGGAUCCCAAUACCAAUCAAUUCAACACCCAAAAUUCUUCUAAUUACCCAUUUAGCUACCAAAAUUCCAACAAUUAUCAACACCCAAAUCAAUUUUGGCUUAAAUGCUCUUUUGGUCCCUUAAAUAUUUAUUUGGUAUCGCUAUGGUCCCUUAACUAAAAAAAAGAUUGUUUGAGUACUUUAAUUUAAUUUUCGUUACAUUUUUUGGUCCCUUCUAUUAGGUUUCUGUUAGGUUUAAUAAAAAACGUUAAGUGUGGUACACGUGUCGUUUUGGCAUUGGCUCUGGAAACAUUAAGGGACCAAAAUGAUACCAAAUAAAUACUUAAGGGACGAAAAGAGCAUUUAAGCUUUUUUUUAUCAUCUUCAUCAAAACCUUCAUCAUAUUCAUCAAUUAAAUUCAGAAAAAAAGGAAAUAAUCGAAAAAAACUAAAAAAAAUAAAUAUCCACCGAUUCAUCUUGCAAGACAUUGAUGCAUCUUCAACCCAAAUCCAUAACCCCUCUUUUAUUUAACCAUGCCCAAAUUCAUCUUGCAGGACAUUGAUUCAUUUUCGAGUUCAAUAACUCAUCAUCAACAGUCAUCGUCGCCGUUUCUGGGAGGAUCUACUAUCCACUGUCGUUUUUCUAGAUUCAAGGUUUUUGUGAGAGAGAAAAAUGGAAAUGGUUUUAGGAAACUAUGAAGAAUAAGAUUGAAGAAAUGGUGGAUUUUGGGUUCUAAAUUGGUAAAUAUUGAAAAAGAUUUUUUUUCUGGGUUGGUGUGUUGUUGAUGAUGAAGAUCAUGAAGAAGAAGAUGGAAGGAGAAGGAAGAAGAGGAAUAGUACAAACCCUAACGUUUUUUUGAUUUUUUUUUAACAGAAGGGACCAAAACAGGUAACAGAGAUAAAGAUAAAGUACUCAAACAAUCUUUUUUUUAGUUAAGGGACCAAAGCGAUACCAAAUAAAUACUUAAGGGACCAAAAGAGCAUUUAAGCCAUCAAUUUUUCAACCAACAUCCUCAAAACCCAAAUCAAUCCCCCAACCAACAUCCUCAAAACAGGUCUAAUUUUGGUUUUGCCUCAAAUUUCAAUCACCCAUAUUAUAGAUCUAUGAUGUGAUAUCCAUCUCAAACACCCCCAUUUAAUGGUUAUAUGCCAAUGGUGAAUGAAAAUUUUCAGAGUGUUGGUGAAUAUCCUGAAUUUUCAUCAUAAAUAAAUCGUGGUGGAAUGACAAGAGCUAAUGAAGUCACUCCAAUUCCAGAGGAUACAACUCCUAAGAGCAAGAAAAACCAGCAACCAUCAUGGAACACCGAACAAAAUUUGGUGUUAAUUAGUGGGUGGAUAAAAUAUGGAACAUGCAGUGUUGUCGGGAGAAACCAGACAAGUGAAGCAUAUUGGGGUAAAAUUGCUGAGUAUUGUAAUGAGCAUUGCUCAUUCGAUUCUCCGCUCGAUGUAGUUGCAUGCCGAAACUGUUUUAAUUAUAUGAGCAAAUGAAUAAAUAAAUGGGUUGGUGCUUAUGAUGGCGCUAAGCGUUUGCAAGGAAGCGGUUGGUCGGAAGAUGAUGUUUUCGCAAAAGCGCAGGAAUUAUAUGUAUGUGGGAAGAAUGUUCAAUUUACUUUAAAGGAAGAAUGACACGCUCUCUGUGAUCAACCACGUUAUGGUAGUCAAGUAGGAGGAAAUGUUGACUCAGGAAGUAGUGGAUCUAAGAGAUCUCACAAGGACUCUGUAGGAUCUAGUGCUCGUCCAAUGGGUAGGGAGGCAGCUAAAAAAAAAGGUAAAAAGAAAAGCAAGGACGAGACCUUGGAGAAGGUGGAAAAGGAGUGGGUUCAAUUCAAAGAAUUAAAGGAGCAAGAGAUUGAACAAUUGAAAGAGUUAACCUUGGUGAAACAACAUAAAAACAAGUUGCUGCAAGAAAAGACUGAAGCUAAGAAAAUGAAAUGUAUCUAAAGUUAAGUUAUGAAGAGCAUCUCGAUGACCGAAUGAAAGAGCUGUUGGAAAAGUUGGAGCGUGAGCUGUUUGAAAAUUAAUUUUAAUCAAAUAUUUGUUUGUAUUCAGUCAAAAUUAUCAGUGUUGUCUAGUCACGAGUGUUUGCUUUAAUAUUUGUCAGUGUUGUCUAGUCCCUAGUGUUUGCUUUACCAAUUAUCCGUGACUUUUAUUUCAAACACUAUUUGAAGGUCUUCCUCCAUUUGUUGAAAUGUGUGCCUACUGUUUAAUAAAAUGAUACUAUGACGAUGCAAUGUUUCGUCGUCGGUACCGGAUGCAAAAGCACGUUUUCAUUCGAAUCGUUGUAGACCUUUCAAUUAGUGAUAACUACUUCACCCAAUGAGUUGAUGCUGCCAACAAAGAAGGUAUAUCACCGCUAGCAAAAUUUACCACAGCAAUGCGAAUGUUAGCAUAUGGUGUGGCAACAGAUGCGGUCGAUGAAUACAUCAAAAUAGGAGGUACUACAACAUUGGAGUGCUUACGUUCUAGACCGGUUUGAUGAUGUGGAACAGGGAAAGGCUCCAACGGUGAAUUACUUUGUGAAUCAACGUCUCUAUAAUAUGACAUACUAUCUAGCUGAUGGUAUCUACCCUUCUUAUCCAACUUUCGUCAAAUCAAUUAGACUUCCUCAAAGUGAACCCGAUAAGUUAUUUGCAAAACAUCAGGAGAGCUGUCGGAAGGACAUCGAACGUGCUUUUGGAGUGCUUCAAGCUCGAUUUAAAAUCAUCUGUGAACCAACUCGCUUGUGGGACAUAGCCGAUUUGGGUAUCAUCAUGAGUUCAUGCAUCAUAUUACAUAAUAUGAUUGUUGAGGAUGAACGAGAUACAUAUGCUCAACGUUGGAUUGAUUUUGAGCAAUCUGAGGGAAGUGGAUCCAGUACACCGCAACCAUACUCGACCGAGGUGUUACCCACUUUUGCAAAUCAUGUGCGUGCUAGAUCCGAGUUGCGUGAUCCAAAUGUUCAUCACGAAUUGCAAGCAGAUCUAGUGAAGCACAUAUGGACAAAGUUUGGAAUGUUUCGUGAUUGAAGAUGAUUUGUAUCGUACUAAAUAAAUUACUUGUGUGUUGUGUGCUUGUUUGUUAUCUUGCAUUUUAAGCUAUUUGUGUGCUGUGUGCUUAGUUUAUUGUAUUGCAUCUUAAGUUAGAAAAUAAAAAUAAAUUAUUUAAAUAAAUUGUGUUUUUACAAAAAAAAAAAUUGUUAAGUGUUUCUUUAUUUUUAUUUAAUUAUAAUCGAUAAUUGUAAUUUUAUGUAAUUAUCAAAACAAAAUAUAAAAUUAAAUAAGAAUAAGAAAUAAAAUUAGGUGGUGGGGUAGAGUGUUGAAUGAAAAAACCAUUGGAGAGGUAAAAAUUGAAUGAGUGUUGAAUUAAGAGAGAUAAAAUGGUGUGGAGUGUAGGGAAUUGAAAAAGUGGGUGUUGAGGGUUGUUGAAUGUUUGUGACCAUUGUAAAUGGUCUUAGAACAACUUUUGGAUCUCUUUCAUAAUCUUCUUGUGUUCUUACUCUCUCUCUCUCUCUUGUUUUUUUACCAAUAAAAAAGAAGAAGAAAGUUGCCAAUAAAAUGGUUGUACGCAUAUUAUUACUCAAAAAUAAAUUUAGAAACAUUCUUUUGUUGUUUAUUCUUAAAUUGAAGACAAUGUAACCAACCAUCUCACGAUCCACACAAAUGGAAGUAUUAAGUUUCGUUGAACAUAGUUCACUUGACUUGAGGCUUAAAUAAUACUACUUUUAGGUGGCAAAAACAAUCAAGGUAAUGGUUUCACUGAAUUAGAAAUUCUAGUGGCCAAAACAAUCAUGGUCACAAAUUCAAAUCAGCAUAACAUUUUACGAAACAUACCACAUCAAGUGCAGCUUAGCUUAGAAUCUUAUCAUGUAUGCAUUCAAAAGUUUUAUAAUACAAUGCCAAUAUUAGCUUCUACCAAUAAACCUGACCUUGUAUGUACUAAUGUACACACCACUAAAAGUCAUACAAAUGCUUUCUCCAAUGUUUUAACCACAUAAACCAUAGUGUAAAUAAUCAUUUUCUUCACCUGUCACCAAAGAAGCAGCAAUUAGGAACAAACUUUAUAGAAAAUACCAUAAAGAAUCGAUUGAUAGCGAUAAUGGCUUGGGUAACCUGUAAGAAAUUGUAAGUUUAAAAAUGCAGUCUUCAAAAAGAACUUAGAUGCACUCAAACCGGUUUGAGUUACGACUAACCUAAAUACUAAGAUAUCAGAGGCUAUGCUAUAUAAAUUGGGCGACAAUUGUCAUGCAACUCGAGUAACGAUCUAAACAUCUAAGAUUGAAGUAUUUGAUGCAAUAUAUGAAAAUGAGCCAUUUAUAUUUAUUUUUCUAUCUAACAUAAACAUCUCAACAAAUAAUUUAUAUCUAUUUGAUUUUAUCGUCCAAAUAUUUUAUUUUUUGUUUUUAUUACUUUCUAAUUUAUUUUAAUAUAAAAUUAGAAAGGUAUGAAUAUCCAUAUAGUAAAGUAUUUAUAAAUAUUUGCAAGUUAAAUAUCAACGUGUAAAUGAUUUUUUAUACAAAAAAUAAAUGAUUAUAAAAUAAUUGAAAUUAUGUAGAAUUUAUUCCUUAAAAUGUAUUAUUAAUAAUUGUGGUAUUAAUGGUCAUUUUACAAUUGUUCGGUGUGAGAUUUGAACAAUGUCUCUUAAAGAUAAAAGGCAUAUAUAUAUUCAACCCAAUAUAUUAUACCACACACUUUCACAACAAAUUACAAAUCAAAGAAAAACCAUUAAUUAGAAAAUCGAGUUAUAUUUUAUUUCAUGACAAGAAAUUUUUUAUUUAAGUACUAUGACAAUUGUAUAGUUUUACUAAUUUAAUAACGGGUACGGAUUUCUCCGAGUCUAGAUACUUAAAAAAAUAUUUUAUUUUAUUCUAUAUGUGUUAAUGAUUUUACAUUUGUACUAAACUCGGUUAUUUUCAUCCUCAUGUGCAUCUAUUAAUUUAUAGGUACUUAAAGUAUGAUUUGCUUUAUUGUAUUCGUGUAUACCCAUUAAGAUAUUUGUAGUGUACCGUUUCGUGGUAAAUUUUAUUUACGGACACCAUACAUUCAUAAUUUUGGUCAUCCUUAAUUAUAUGUCUAACCCGAAAAAUGCCGGAUAAAUACACUAGUAUUACCUAAAAUUAAGGUAAUAUAAGAGAAGAAUUGUCUAAUUUUACCUAAAAUAUUUUAUCAACAUUUUUAAUCCCCGUCACAAGUUUUGGUCCUUAGAAAGCUAGAGAAAAAAAGUUAUAGGAACUAAAAAAAGUAAUUUUAUUUUGUAUGAACUAAAAACAAAACGCUAAUAUUCAUAAAGGCCAUUUGUAAAAAAAAUAUUCAUAAAGCUCAAUUACUUAAUUAACCCUUAUUAUUAUCAGCGUUGUUAUGAUCAUCAUUGUGGUUGUCGUCUUCGUCAUAUUGUUCCUUCUCGUUUUUCUCUUGUUUUCAAGAUGAUGGUUAAUUUAGUGAUCUUAUUUUUGAGGGCUUUUUUGGGUAGAUAAAUAUAGAAGUAUAGAUAUAAAAAAAAAGAUUUAACAAUUAUAUUUGCGUAGAUUCUGAAACAAUAAAACGAGUAAAACUAUGGAGCUAAAAAUAGUUCAAUUGAAGUUAAGGAUUUAAAAAAUUCACCGUUAAGAAAUUAGGGUUAAAAACAGAAGACUUGCUUCUCAAUUAAGUAUUCUUUGUCAAAUAUUGCUCCCCUACAAGUCAUACUGAACCCCCCCACUCCCUUCUCCUUUUCGUUGCCUUCCGUAAUCUUUCCUCCCCCUUCGGAAUUAGCAAUCCUCGUAUUGAACCCAUCAUUCAUCCAUCCUCUUCAUAUCGACGACAAUGUGUUGGUAAGUCAGUUCGAUAUAUCUCUCUGCCUUCUCCGUUUUGCUUUGCUUUCUCGGUGCACUAUGGCCAAACCAUUAGGUGAAAAAAAAGGUUAGUAACCACAUACCGGAAGAUCUUGCAUUAUUCAUUCUAUCAAAACUUCCUUUAAAAUCUUUAAAACGUUUUGGAUGUGUAAAGAAAACAUGGUCUCUCUUAUUUGAAAAUUCUUAUUUCAUCACCAUGUUCCGCACUAAUUUCAUAUCUAUUCCUCACUCUUACUAUGAUGAUACAACACUCAUCCUACAAGAGAUUGUAGAGACACCUCUUAAAUGUUAUAUCCAUUCACUUUCUGGUGAGAGGUUUGAGAAUAGACUCAAAUUCCAUAUGCCAAAUCCAUUUCAAGUGGAGGACCCUCUCCUCUAUAUUUUAGAGUCUGGAUCUACUAACGGAACUCUUUGUCUCUACGGAGGACCCGAUGAACUUGUAUUGUGGAAUCCAAGUACCGAUGAAUUGAACGUCGUUCCUUCCAGUUCUAUGGUCUCUAUGCCACCUUAUCGGGAUCCUUACACUACUCUUCAUGGAUUUGGUUAUGACCAUGUUAGAGAUGACUAUAAGAUUAUUAGGUGUAUACAUUUUUUUCUACUAGAAGGCGAAGAUCUUUUUCGUCUCAACCUGUCGAAGGAAGAUGUGCAACGGGAUGAAAUAUCUUAUGCACGUGUAUGGGAGAUUUAUAGUUUAAGAUGUAACACUUGGGAAUAACUUCAUGUCGAUAUACCUCCAUAUUGUUUUUCAGGUUUAUUGUACACAGAUGGAAUAUGGCAUUGGUUGUCUAGAAAUAAUGCUCAACAUUACAUGGUGUCAUUUGACCUAAGCAAUCAUGUGCUUUUUAAAACAUUAACGCCCUUAGCAAUACCGAUAGACAUAGAUCCCAAUUUUGAUUUUGAGAAUGUGAGUAAAGAAUUGGUGAUGUUAAAUGGUUCCAUUGCUUUGAUCUCUUGGUAUGAAGAUACGACCACCUUUCACAUAUCAGUUUUAGGUGAACUUGGUGUGAGUGAAUCAUGGACUAAACUCUUUAUUAUUGGACCUUUGUCCGACCUUUUUACGUAUCCUAUUGGAGCAGGGAGUAAUGGUGAUAUAUUCUUCAAAGCAGGAGAUGGAAAACUAGUCUUUGAUUUAAGAACACAGAUGAUUGAGAAACUUGACGGUGUGGAAAAAGCAUAUUCCAAAAUAAUAAUCUAUAAGAAAAAUGGAGGAAUAAAUCAUUAGUUAGUUUUUGUUCUCAAUUAUUAGGAUCAUUUUAUCUUAAAUAAUAAAAAGUGGUUUAUCAAUCACCCAUUAUCAUAUUUAUGAUUACGAAGCAUAUGAUAAAUUAAUAAACCAUCUUGUAAUUAUGAAUGUUGCAGCUUUGACAAAUUUAUAUUGAAAGUAUUUGUACUAUCUUUCUAUUUGUUUAAUUAUAGUUCUAUUUGCAAGAUGAUAUGAUUUCUCUUUCUAUUGUAUUGAAUGGUCUCUGGUUUUUUGGUAGCUAAUGGUUUUAUUAUGACCUUGUUAUGAGUUAUUAUGAGUUUAUAAGUUAUUUUUUCAUUGUACACAUGAAUUAUUACAAGUUUAUUAAUUAUUUCAACACUAAAAGUUUAUGUCAAAGUCAUAUUCCUAAGUUUUUUAGUUUUGUUUCCCUUUGUCGAUGAUUUAUGUUAGUAUCAUGUUGAUGAGUUUUUCUUCCUUUUUUGAUCAGUUUAGAGUGUUCUCUAUUUCUUGCAAUGGUUGUCCACAGACAAGUAGGUUGCAAGUAAAUUCAAUUUUCUCUAUUUAUUGAUUUAGUAUCAUGUUUGCAGAUUAGUAAUCAAUGAUUUAUGGAAUUUUUUUACAGAUUGAGCUCAAUUUUUUUGACCCGAGGAGUUCAUCAACAUCAUCGUUAAUAUCUUGAGACAAAAGGUGCAAUAGUGGAAUACAAUUAUCAGAUGCAACCUGUUCCAGUCAGACCAAGCAGUGCUCUUACACUUUCCAGUAUGGAGAUGGUAGCGGAACCUCAGGCUAUUACGUGUCCGAUACGAUGCAUUUGGAUACUAUUUUUGAGGGAUCUGACUACAAAUUCUUCAGCUCAUGUAGUUUUUUGGGUGAGCUUUCAUGAGCCUGAAAUGGUUGAUAUUUGAUAGCAUAUCUCUUGUUUUCUUUCUUCGUGUUAAUUAGUUUAAUCUAAUCUCGGAAACCGCUACUUUGUGAAUUGAGCAGUUGUAGUAACGAGCAGAGUGGAGACUUGACAAAAUCUGACAGAGCAGUUGAUGGUAUAUUUGGAUUUUGGCAACAACAAAUGUCUGUGAUCUCACAGCUCUCAUCACAAGGGAUUGCUUCUGGAGUAUUCUCUCAUUGUCUUAGAGGAGAUAGCUCUGGUGGAGGAAUUCCGGUUCUUGGUGAGAUUGUGGAGCCUAACAUAGUUUAUACUCCAAUUGUUCCAUCACGGUAAGUUUUUAGCUAACUGCACCCUUCGCAAAUAUUUCAGGCUCAUUACAAUUUAAACUUACAGAGCAUAUCUGUUAACGGCCAGGCACUUCAAGUCGAUCCAUCAGUUUGUGCAACAUAUCAAGCAACAGAGGCACCAUUGUUGAUUAUGGAAAAAAAAUCAUAUUCCUAAGUUUUAUAAACAUGAAGGCUCGAGUAAAGGUUAAAAUUUCAUCUUAUUUGCGUCAUGUUUCUAUUCUAAUUUUUCAACAUCUAACAAAGUAAUUAUGUUAGACAGAUUUGAACUUAUACAUGUCUUUCGGUUUUUACAUGUAAAAGAGAAAAAAUAAAUUAUACUUCCAUUUCCCCAUCUUUUCAUGACAUGUUCAUAAAAGCUGUUUUCAGCUUAUUUCCAUAAGCUGUCUAGAAAAGCUUAUGAAAAUAGCUACAUAAAGCUUUAAAGAGUUUUGUCUCCUGAGGUGAAAUUUCUACAUAAAGCUUUAAAGAGUUUUGUCUCCUGAGGUGAAAUUUCUACAUAAAGCUUUAAAGAGUUUUGUCUCUCCAGGUCAGUCUACGUAAAGCUUUAUCUAUCCACCUUCUAUGCUCUUAAUGUGACAUGACACUACAAACAUUUCUACAUAUCUUGUAUUUAAAAGUUGGUUAAUAUAUUACUCAUUCCCAUGCUGGAAAUGCUGCCACACGUAUGUAACCAUGAAAUUAUAUUUUAGUUUAGUUUUAUUGAGUUAUGGAAAAUGUUAAAUUGAUAACUAUGAGCCUUGCAUAAUCGAUAAUUUAUAGCUGAAUUGAAUUGAUUACCAUGAAAUGCUGCCACACGUGUAACUGUAAAUAAAUAUUAUGUACUAUAGGUUUAUGGAUAUUUUCCAAAAUUAUUUGGUUGUCAAAUCCAUUCCUAAUUCCAAAAAUCAGUCCAUCUUUCCUCUAUUUAAUUUUGCAUUUUUUAGUUUAGUUUAAAAAAUUGAUUAUGAUCUUUGGAAAAUGAAAUUAGAGGCACUGCUAAAUUGAGCUUGAUGUGUUGUUGUAUUAAGUGUUAGAUCAUUAGACUUUGAAGCUGAUGGCUUGUUGGGAGUCUAUGCUGAGAUUUUCGAUACAAUUCUGUCUAGUUUUUCUGCCUCUGCUGCGCAAUCUCGACUACGCAAUCGCAACAUAGCUUUUGGCAUGUUGCACUCUUUUCUUAGUUGCCUCCAAAUGUGAUUAGAUGCCUACAGUUUUGGGGUUUGAUGUUGUUGUUUAGCUAGCGUGCGUUACUGUUUUGAACUCAAUUCAGUUGAAGUUCUGACUUCUAAUUCUAUCUAAUUUUUCCUUAACAGGUCUAGUUUAUGUUGUUAUGGGGUAUUUUUGAUAUAUGGUGAUGAACUGCUGGUGGGUGGUGUUUGGUCCUGCAAUGAUGGUUCUGUUCAAGGACGAGUUACCACUAUUGUCGUGUUUUCUCGACUACGAGCAUGAAUUUGUUUUUUUGGUUGGGUCUAUGAUGGUUCUCAUCUUCCGAAACUGCCAUGUUUUUGACUGUUUUUCUUUAGUUUACUGCUGCUAUAUUUCUGUGUUUUUUCCCUGCUUUGGCGAGGAGUUAUCCCCGAUUACAUAUAGAUCAGGGAUUAGUUUUGUUGCCUAACACUACUCGAUGUCAAACCUUUGGACAAAUUUUCGUUUCCUUGUUACAUAUUGGCAUCCCCACUGACUCAAAUUUUGUCUAACUUUGUCGCUUGUAGAAUGCAUUCCAAAGUGACCUGUUCAAUAUAUACACGCUGCUGGGAAUAGUUUGCACUUAUGGUUGCUGCAAGCUCAGGGGAGAUGAGCUUUUCUAGAGGGCUUGGCUGGUCCGAUAUUCAACAUAGUUGACAAACGAUGCGCAUUUGAAUUAAACUUGUUUGAUUUGCUUAAAUUAGGGUGGUAGCUAUUCGAUUUAUAUUACCAAUGAUAUACAAUUUUUUUUUGAAGAGAUAUAUAAUGUAUUUGUUCUUUUCAUUAUCAAUCAAUUUCAGCUUGUUGAAAUCUUUGAAGUCAAAUAUAUAAAUAUUUUACUGAUUGAUCUACCUAGUCUUGACUAUUCAGUAACAUUUAUGUAACAAAACUAUAGAUUGGCAACAAAUUAGCUACAAAUUACCUACAAAAUAAGUAACAUUUUUUAAGUGUUACAAGUAAUACUUUCAAGUGUUACUGAAAUCAUUUAGUAACACCGGCUUUACCUAACAUUUAUCAAAUGUUACAAGAUCUAAAUAGUAACAUUUGUUUUUGAUUUAGUUACAAUUUUGAAGUGUUACUAAAUCUCAUAUAUGUUGUAGUGUGAUAGGAAAGAAGUGCAUUUUUGCAUAUAAAUGUUAGAAAAUGGUGUAAGUUCUGAAUGAUGGGUGAAUAUUGAUGUUUGGAGUAGUGAGUGUUGUGAAUUAUACACUUGAAUGAGGAUGACCGGAAAUUUUACUAAUAUAUAAUGUUGUUUAAAUGUACCAUAUAUAUUUUUAAUGAAUGUAUUCUCACCACUGCUUUGUUGUUUUGUGUUUGUGGUGUCUGUACUCGUGGGAGGACAUAUACUUAGGUUAAGGAGUUUUAGCUGCGAGGUAUUGGGAUGGUGGCGUUGGAAGUUUUAUUCCAUCUGAUUUAUUUAUGAAAAACUGUAUAGGCAAUUACGUUGUUUUGAUUCGAUAACACUAGGGUUAAGGUGUUUUCAUCGUUUUGUUAAGUUUCUUGGAGAUGAUUUUUGAAACUAUGAUUUUAUUAUGCUAUAGUGUAGAGACCUUAAAUUAUUUUAAUUGAAGUUGAUGAACUAUUUCGCUGCUUUAAUUAUGAUAUUUGAUUUAUGGAAAGGUAGAUUGUCGAAUAUGUGUAGCACCUAUUUAAAUAAAUAUACUUUUUAUGUUACAAUUAUAGUUUACACUUGAGUGAUUUUGAGGCUCCGAUGAUUGCCAUUUCGGUGUUGAACAUUGGGAUAUGGUCGACUGGGUCAUUCCUUCCAUUGAAAGUGGACUGUGAGGGUGGUUUGAAAAUUUUGAGAACUGGCACAUUCCAGAUCUCCGCCAAAAGGGUUGGGGAUCCAAUUCCUCCGUCUCCUCAUUGUUAUGGUGGAGCUCGUCCUGUUGUUGUUGGAUCAUGUUGAUUGAAGCUUGUAGGGCUUCGUUUUAUUGUUGCAGCUUCUGUAACUGGAUUUGCAUUGCUACAACGAUGUUUGGAUUGGCGUCUCCCCCAACCACCGAUUUUGUCUAGAGCGUUAUUGCUUUGAGAAUAUUGAUGGUGGCCUAGGAUAGUUUUACCGAAGCCCCAUAGUGAACACUAACUAUACUUGAAAUAAGCACAAUGAUAACACUCGACUCAGGAGAAAGCUAAGUGAUCAAGUUCUAGGUCUGUAUAUUUAUGGUUCUCUGAGUGUGACCCCAGGGUGCUAUUUAUAGCUCCCCCUACUUUAUGGCGGCAGACUCUAAUCUUUAUUAUGAUUCUUUAUUACAUACAACUACAUUUUUUUUAAAUCAGAUAUCACUAUUUUGAAAAAAUCUAUUUAACACACAUUAUUCUAUUAAGUCCAAAAAUUUGUUGUCAACAAAACAAAAUAUCUAGUUCAUUAACUUCUUUACUGCUAUUGUAGUAGCCAAUUAUAAUUUUGUAGUGACAUUUUAGUUUUUCAUAUCUUGUAAAACACAUCAAGGCAUAAGGCUAUUAAGACUACUAAUUAAAAGCUAAAAGAAAUAUAAAUUGUAAGUGUUUCAACCAAUUAUUAAAGGUAUUCUUAUAAGUGGCGAGGAUUUAUUUAAAAAAAAUUGAGAAUAUGACAUUUUUAUUAAUUAAAGUGAUAUUAAUGACUAUUUUACUACUACUACUACGGAGGGGAUUCAAACUCAACACUUUAAAGUUACAAGGUUAAACUCUUUUCGAUGAGAUAGACCAUAAAAUUAUAGGCGGUAGGAUGGAAAAAAAAAAAAAAAAAAGGUGUGAUAUGACCGAAUUGGAUUCCAAUGCGAUACUUCUAAAAUAAGAGAGAGAAGAUCAAUCUAAAUAAACUCUUUAAUUCCUUACUAUCAUUUUAGAGUAUAAAAUAGUAACUACAAGGUCUAUGAAAUUAAGGAAAAAAAUAUUGUGUGGCAGUACAAUAACUAAAUGAGAGCUCAUGAAAAAUGUAUCAUAAUGAAUAUUGCACAUUUCUUUUACUAGCACAAUAAUCCAUUCUCAUAUGUAAGGUGUUUCUGCACUCUUUUGGGUUUGGUACUCAUAUAAUCGGCGAAGCUUUUUAGUCAAUUCACAUUUGUGAUCAACACAUUUGACAACAUAAAACCAGUCUGUAAUUUGUGGACAAUCGGCAUCAGUUUCACAAUAAAUAUCUACUGUAAUGAAAAAGGAAAAGAAAAGAAAAUAAUGUUAACUAAAACAUGAUAAAAGAUUGUGUACGAACUGCAAAGUAAAUAGAAAAAAUUGAAAAGAAUGAGAAAUGACUUACCACCAUCAACUUCCGUUAUGACAAGAAAUAAGGGAAGAAAUAGAAUCAUAGCAUAAACAAAUUCGAGAAUUUCCACCAUAUGUUUUCCUCUUUGCAUGUCAAAAAUAGAAUAUGAUUUGAUCACCUUUUAGCGUAUAAAGUUCAUGCUCUCCUAAAAUUAAAUAAUUUUUUUUAUCACUUCUAAAAUUGUAAAAUCCUUUUAUAAAAUUAUAAUCAUUAUUAAAUAUUUCUUAAGUAUUUGUUGUGUUUGUCUCUUCAACACACCUAGUAGGCGGUUAAAUAACAAACGUUCUAAUCAUUAAAAUUUAUUCUGUUUUAAUUAACUUUUCAUUACUUUUUGAACCUUUCACGAUAGUAAAAGAUUUUUUUUCUUUGUGAACCAUGAUAAAGUUAUUUUUUGGAAUAAUACACCAAUAUUAUUAUUUUUUGGACAAGAAUGAUGCACCAAUAUUAGAGUGAGAACAUGUAUAUACAUAGUGGCGGAGUAUUACAAGGGCAUAGGUGUGCCCACGACCCACCCUCCCCCUGUAUUACAAGGGCAUAGGUGUGCCACGACCCACCCUCCUCCCUCCCUCCAAAAAAAAAAGUAUAUUUUUGUUCUAUUAGUAAAAUGAUAAAAUAUCCAUGACUUUCUUUCUGACUCCGCCACUAUUUAUACACAAGUAAAAUGUAUGGUAGGAUCAAUUCAUGUUGCUGAUAAAGUCAUUGAAAAAAAAUGAAUGUGUAUUUAAUUUUGUAAUUGCAUGAUUUAUUAUACAUUUUCUUUUUUUUUUGAAGGAAGGAAUCUGUUUUUUUAUUUAUUAUAUACAUUAUCAUUCAAAUCAAUUAUAUAAUUCAUAUUGAUUUAAAAAAUAAUUUGGUACUGAAUUGAAUGUAAACUAAAAUUGAUUUUAAAAUUGAUUCAUAUAAUAAUGAAUUGAAAUAUGUUCUCAGGAGGAAUGCAAUAUACUUGAUUUCAUGUAUAUUUGCAUUCCUCCUGUUUCAUUUUCCAACGUGCCUCUCCUUGUCCAUUUUAUCGUGUUCCAUCGUGGUGUGCCUUUUUCUUGGGCUGAAGAGCACAUCUUAGUAUCUAUGUACUUGAAGGAUCCGAUUGAUUUUUCAUGGCUCCUUUACCACCAUCUCAUGUUGUUGAUAUCAAUGUUAACAGAGAAGAGGUAGUGCUACUCCAUCUAGUUAGUGCUUCAAAUGAUUACACUAUCAGUAGUGCUUAUAGUUUCCUUCAACAAUCAGCAAAUCAAAAUAUCCUUGCAGAUGACAACCAUGUAUUUUGACAUAAAGAUGUUCCUUUGAAAGUCAAUUUUUUUAUGUGGCGUCUUCUUUUCAACCGCCUUCCAACGAAUGCUAAUUUAUGAGAGGAGUGAUUCCGGCUACUUGAAGGGUGUGGUAAUUUAGAGGAUAAACAAUGCCCGUGUUGUCAAAAAGAUCGGACUAAAGCAAUGAGAGAAUAAUACCAAAUCAGCUCAACCAUGCAAAAUCAACUCAUUUUGGUCUUGAAAAACACAACAUGGCAUUACAAUUCAAGAAUAAAAAAUAAAAUAAAAAUAGUUUUUGCUUUCGUAGAGAACAACAAACUAUUAAAACUUCAAACAAAGAAAAUAAAAUAUUGCAAAAGAAAUAAAUGAAGAGGAUAGUCAGCUAAUUAACCCAUGUAUUUUUUUUGUUACAAAGGCUAAAGAGCAAGGAAAACAAAAGAAACAAACAGAUAACUAAAGUCUCAAGUAAAAGGUUCCAGCAGCAUGAGAGGCAAAAGCUCCGCUGGAGGAGAGUCGUGGCGGAUGAGCUAAUUGUCAUGGCGGAUGAGCUAAUUAACUCAUGUAUAAAACAAAAUACAUUAUUCAUACAACUGAAAAAUUAGUUAAUUUCUAGAGUUCAAGAAAUACCAGCAGAACACAAAUAACAGCCCAAACAUUUUAUAACUUUGCUAGUUAUCUUCUAUUAUUCUUACCCCAAGAUCAGUAAUUAGUAAUAAUUCACUUCAUUGAAGAUUCACAAUCUGAGUUCAAAUAUAGAGUUUUCAAAAAUGACAAUGUUUUUUUAAAAGAGAGAGAUACAUAGUCAUACUCAUAUGACAUGCCCCCAUGAAGAAAAACAUGGACCAAUGUCUUACUUUGACAUCAUUUUCAACUAGAGUUUUGAUUUCUUCGUCUACCUUCUUUUGCAUUUCUUUGCCUAGCCCUAAAAUUAAACCCAAGAACUUGCAAAAAAAUAUAUGAACUAAGAAUCAAAUCAAUAAAGUGAUACAAAGUAGUGAAGGAAAAUGGUUAGGGUUUCAAAAAAAAUGGGACUUUUUAUCUUUGUUGAAGUCUUAGCAAGAUAAUGAAGGAAGGUCACUUUCCAUCGAAGAAGAAGGACACAAUUACUUUUAAAAUGACACUGUAGGGAUGAAACAAAAAUGAAAUAAUUAGAGUAUAGCACAUGCUACAGUGACCGGAAAGUUGGUCGCUAAUUUUUUAAUAGAAUGGGUAAACAAAUAUCAGAGAUUGAAUUUUCUGUCACUAAACACCGGGUUCUACUUUAGUCUCCAAACUACAUUUGGAGACGCAAAAACUUAUUGUUAAAAAAUAUUUUAGAACUUUAUGAUGAUUGAAAACUUAUUGUCAAAAUCCUUCGCUAUAAUCCCGAUUUCUAGUAGUGUUUAUGAUUGAACACUCAUGAUAUUUUGUAAGGUUUGAACAUAACUGUGUCUUGUGGCAAUAAAUCAAGCGCAGUUGUGUAAACCUUCCUAAAAUUAUUGUAGGCUAUUUUUGGAAGAAAAGAGUAAAGUAACUUGCACAAAAUUGAGAAUGAACAGUAAAUUUUUAUCACACCUCUCUCAUCGAAAUUUAGUUGUUCCAGCCGCAUAGAACAUUGUAAGCCACCAACAACCACCAUUCCAUCUUCAUUCUUCAUUGUUUUAGCCAUGAAUCCGUUCCUUAUUACAUGACAUUGUCUUAAUCUUCAUCCUAAAGAAGCUAGUGAAGCAAUCAAAUCACCUUUUAUCCAAAUAUCAUUCGCGCAAGUUGUUAAAAAUGUUUGUGAUAUACCUUUGAGACAACAAUUCCUCAACUUAGUGUUAAAGGUGACUGGAUUGCUAUAGUAAUUCCUUAAUAUGAAUACAAAGAUGGAAUCAAAACUUGUAAGGACAACUUGUACAAACGAAUUAUCUGGAAAAGCGUGCAACACAGUUGAAGUUUGGUGCCUUGCGAGCCAAGCUAUCGCCAAUAUGGAAAUCCCUAAGUAAUGGCGAAUGACCUCUCUGGGUAAGGGUUAAUUUCUGAGUCCUCCUUUACAUCUCUAGAGGAUGUUCAAAGUGUGAGAUCGAUAGGAUCUUGAAUCUCAAGAGCAUUGGAGACCUAAAGUACUCUUUGAUAUAAGCCAAUAUUUGAUGUAGACUUUGACUAUUUUGUUUGAGUCUUGGUUGAUAUGGACCUUAAAUAUCAACCCAAGUACGACGCUCUUGUUGAGAGAACAUGGUUUCAUUUUUGUGGAGAUGAGAAUAUUUUUUGUGAAUCGAACCAACUCGAAUUUAGUUUAAAACUCGAUUCGAUAAUUGAUUUAUUGAACUUAGUUCAUGAACUAAAUGAGCUGAAUUUAAGUUGAAAAUUAAGUUUGUUAAUUAUAUGAGUCGAACAUGAACUAUAUAUAGUUCGACUCGUUUGGUUCAUGAACUGACUCGAUUAUAUAUAUAUAUAGGACAUAUCUAAUGAGAAUAGCUUUGUUAUGUGAGAAUAAUGAGAACGCAUAUGGAUCCUUAGAUUAAAAAUAAAUGGUUAUGAUUAAAAGUCCUCUUUUAAACAACACAUGUUCUUUCUACAGUGUAUCAUGUUUCUAUGUUCAACCCAUCUUCAAUCCAAACAACACCAUUCCAGUAUUGCUUUCAUCUAUGCCACCCGCCGGUGACACGACAACUCCGGCAAUUUUUCGAUUGAUGGAGGAACAAUUUCCGAAAGGUUUCUGUAACUUAAAUUGAUUGUUCUGAGAUUGCAAAGCUGACUAAUCCCUGUCGGAAUCUCGUCGGAGAUGAAAUUCCAGCUGAUGCCGAAAAACUUACUGACGUGAAACAUUUAGAUCGACGAGAGUUGAGAGCUUACCGACGACGGUGUCUAUUUUUCCGGUGAGGCCAGGAUAACCGGAUCUAGAUUCGCCGAGAUUUAGAUCAACGACUUAAUGGACGGAAAAUUAAACUCUGACAAGGUUGCAGGGAUGGUCGGUGAUGGCCACAAAGUCACAUCACCCAAAGACGAUGAAGGAACCAAAACGUUUUAGAAAAUUGGGAAUGAAGAGGAAAAAAUUGAAUUAAUUUGGUUUUUCAUCUCUCGUAUUAAUUUGGAUCUAGAUUCAAUUUUAUCAUUUUUCAUCCUGUAUGUGUUUUUCAUAAGAUUGAUUUUGAACCAAUUAUGAGAGAGAAGGGAUACGACGGAUUGGGCGUGAGGAAGAAUGCAGGAUGGAAGGUGUGUUGUUGAGAAAUUUUUUUUUUUCUGCCCUUAUUUUUGCCAAAAAACACAAAACUACCCUACUUUUUCGAAAAAUUGCAAAAAUACCCUACUUUUUCUGAUACCCCUGGCACCACACAACCCCAAGUUGCGGGGUACCCUCAAAGUUGACGAAAUUUUUGUCCUUAUUAUACCCCACAACUCCAAGUUGCGGGGUACUUUCCCUAUUUUUUUUUUUUAAUUUUAAACUACCAAGCAAGAUGGACUUGCGAGGUAGUUUAUAAUUUUUUUUUUUUAAAAAUUAAAUACCCCACAACUUGGGGUUGCAAGGUAUUUUUCUAUUUUUUUUUUAAUUUUAUAAUUAAUUAAAAUAUAUUAUUUCAUCUACUAUAAAUACUUUCUUUCAUCUUUCAAUUUAUCACACCAUUUCAUUUUUUGAUAAUUAGUUGCAUUAUUUUGGUCAGGAUAUUAAUAAUGUUAAUUUAGGCAUUAAUAAUAAAGUAAUUAUAAUAAUAAUCAUUAUCUACGAAAAAUAAUAAUAAUAAUAAUAAUCAUAAUAUAUAUAAAAUAAAAAACUUACGAAAUAAAAUAAAUAUGCAAUAAAGACUAGAUUUCUACUGAUGUCUAAUAUUAGUGCAAUCUUUGCGGGAAUGAUCAGGCAUCCUACAAACGCCGCAUCUUCUCUCAGUUUCCACAUCGUCCAUCUCGGUCCUAAUGCGAGUAAUUGGUGGACGACCUUUCUUUGCCCUACGCAUCGACUUGUUGGGAACCACCUUCAGUCCUUCAUAAUCAGGCCAAUAUGACUGGUGGUGAACCACGUCGAAGUGGAUGUUGUAUACGGCGUACACACACUCAUUCGUGAAUUUGUUAUCGACAAAAGUCUUGUAGUCGUGAGAAAAGCUAGAACAUGCGGCAAUUACAUGUGAGCAUGGUAGGUGUAACGCUCUGAACCGUCCACAGUCACACCAUUUAUUUUGCAGGUCCACCUUGUAUUCUCCCUUUGGUAAUCCUUCUUUAUGGUCGAUGGUUUCACAGACAGAAAAGGUAUAUCGAUCCCGGUCAAACUGAGUGACAUGAUGACUGUUGGAUUUAAUAACCUCAUUCCUGAGAUAUUUCAUGAUGUUUUCUGAGAAUGGCUCACCAGAAUUUACCCUUGCCGCUGCUUCAUGUCCUCUUUUAGCAAACAAGGCCGCCAACCUGUAAUAGGAUGCUUUCACAAUUGCUGUGAUCGGGAGUCCUCGAAUUCCCUUAUACACGUUGUUUUGUGACUCUACCAAGUUACUUGUCAUGUGGCCCCAUCGUCGACCAUCAUCAUGUGAUUGAGUCCACUUUUCUUUGGGAAUGUUGUCGACCCAUGCUAAAGCCUUCCGGUCCGCGACAGCGAUUUCAGAGCGGUAGUAUUCGAAUGUUGGGAUGUUCAUGGCGUAACCUGCAUUGUUUUGAAAAAAUUUAGAUGUGUCUUCUUUAAACAAAUAAUAUGUCGAAAUUACAAGGAUAGAGAUAUAAUUUUUACCCAUGCCUUCAACUUUCUUCUUAAGUUCUCCAUCCUUGAACGAUCGCAUAAAGUUUUGUGCAAUGUGUCGGACACAAAACACAUGGCUUGUCGGAGCAUCAUGCCAUCCAUUCUGUGGAUCAUCAUAUGCGCUCUUUAUCGACACAUGUCUAUCAGAAAUGAGACAUAUGUUCGCCUGUGGGGUGACAUGCUGCCUUAGAUUUUUCAAAAAGAAACUCCAUGCCUCCUUGGUCUCCCCUUCCACGAUUGCGAAAGCAAUGGGAAAUAUCUUGUUGUUCCCAUCUUGCGCAACAGCUAACAACAAUGUUCCUUUGUAUUUACCAUACAACCAAGUUGCGUCAAUCUGGACAAUUGGUUUGCAGAAUUCGAAGCCCAAGAUGCACGGACGAAAGGCCCAAAAGAGACGCUUGAAGACGAUCUCAUUGACCACUUCUGUUGAUGGGUCUGUUUGAAAAUCAAUAAUUGUUCCUGGCAAAUCUUUUUCCAUGACCAUCAACCACUGUGGUAGUUCUUUAUAAGAAUCCUCCCAGUUACCAUAAAUUGAUUCAAUCGCCUUAUUUUUUGCUCUCCAUGCCUUUCUAUAAGAAAUUGUAUAAUUAAACUUCUCUCGGAUGUGUGCAAUUAUAACUUUCACCGUAAUUGAAGCAUCCAUAUGUAGUAGUGAUUUAACACUUUCACAUAUGACAUUGUAACUAAGUUUGCAAUGAUCUUGCGUCAAUUCUGUUGAGACACAUGUAUGAGGAUCCUUCAUUUUUCCAAUCUCCCAUCUAUCAGAUUUUUUCCUCCACGAGGCCCGCAAUUUGAAACCACAAGUAGUAUCUUUACAUUUGAUGACAUACCUUUCAUGAUCCGAUUGCUUCACAAAAUAAUCCCAUGAAUUUUUUAUGUGAUAAUAUCUAAUUGCGAGAAUGCAAUCAUUCUUGUUAUGAAAUUGCAUCCCCGGAGAAAUACCUUCAUCGACUGGAAGAGUCAUUGACUGAUAAAGCUCAGUUGAGUGGUCAUCAAUGACGUUGCGCAUAGACCUUGGUGGGUUGUAAGAAGCUCUGAUCGGUGAAAUUGGUAGUUGUGGCACAAUGUCUUCUUCGUCUUCUUCGUUCUCAUCACCGCUUUGUGCAGCAAGGAGUUCUUCAUCAUCAUCGUCAUCAUCAUCUUGAACUUCAUCAUUUGAGUGGUCCUGGAUUUGGGAGGUGAAUAUAUUUAUUUCAUCGUUUAAAGUUUGAGAUUGUGUUUGAGAGGGAUCAACUUGAGUUAAUCUUUGUGAUGGUUCGUACUGAUUUUGUGACCAUUGUGAAUGAAAAGAUUUUGAUGAUGAUGGAUUGUAGUGCGGUUGUGAUGAUGAUGGAUUGUAGAAUUGACUAGAACUUGAUGGGUAAUUUAACUCAAGAUUAGAUGUUGGAUUCUUCAUCUCAAACGUAACAUAAAGCUCUAUGUAGGACAAAGAACUGUGACUCUUAUGUACGUCAAACAUAAACUCGACAUCGUCGUUAUCGGUUAGUCUUAACGCCUGGUAGUGAAUUGUGCUAGCUCCAUGAAGAGGGUGCACCACUAAGCACUCGUACACGACAACACAUACAACCAAGUCCAUUUAUUGAGGAUUAUCUACGUCAAGCUGGAUUUUAUGAGGUUACGCAAAUAGGGCAUUAUAAAAUUGACAGACAUAUCGUAACCGCUCUUGUAGAAAGAUGGCGAUCCGAGACACAUACUUUUCAUUUUCGAACAGGUGAAUGUACAAUCACGCUGGAAGAUGUAUAUAUGUUACUUGGCAUACCUUUUGGAGGACAAAUUGUUACGGGUCCUCCACAUCUUUCAUGGGAUAUUUGUUUUCAACUCUUGGGAAUAGCUGCUCCAGAACGCAAAACUGAUGGUUUUACUCUCUCAUUGGCGUGGUUAAAGGAAAAUAUGGUCGAUCCAAACUUCAAUCAACAAUCACCUCCAGAAGUCAAAAUACAACACACUAGGAGGUACAUACUAUACCUCAUUGGGGGUUUCUUGUUUCCAAAUACAACUGGAUUAUAUGUGCACAACUCUUGGUUGUAUUUGUUAAUGGAUUUUAAUGAAACAAGAAAAUAUAGUUGGGGAUCGGCAGUUUUAUCUUACCUUUAUCGUGGCUUGUGUGAGGCAUCCCACCCAAACAUAAAAGUUAUAGCUGGAUGUCAUUUUCUCUUACAAGUUUGGGGAUAUUGUCGAUUGACUCAUAUCGCUCCGAGAAAUUCAAAACCACUCCAGUGGCCGUUAGGAUUAAAGUAAGCAUGGUCAACACCCUUUUUUUUUAUUUUUUAUUAAUUCCCGCACAUAUUCUCGCCUAUUACUAUUUUUAUUUUUUUAGUAAAUCUAAUUUUUUUAAUUUAAUUUGUUAGAUGGACAGGAGUAGGUUCAAGGUACUACGACAAUCCAAGCCAUGACACUAUAUCUUACAGAAAACAGUUUGAUGACAUACUACAGCAUGAUGUAAUAUAUCCUUCAUUUUUGAAUUAUUCCUUCAUAUAUAUAUGUAUAACAAAAUUAUUAACAAUACACUAUAUAUUCUCUUUUGUCCCAGUUUAAGUGGAGACCAUACAAGAGAGUUCCACACGAUUUGCCUGCUGACUAUUGGGAUUGUACUGCGACAACUUACCUUAUAUGUUUUGAUAAGGUUGAAUGGCAUCCAACUGAUAGGGUCAAGCUUCAAUUUGGUUUGUCACAAGAAAUACCAGGGGCCCCAAUAAACAUGCAGCAAUUCCAUAAGUUGGACAAACGGUACAAGGCGUGGUAUGAAUCAAGAGGUUUUCGCUUUCCACAAGAGAGCGAACAUUGGGACAAUCGACGCCUUUAUACAUUACCACAAAUGCGGCCAAAAUCUCUCACCCCAACUCAUUCGUAUAUUGAUUGGUUGACAACCACUUGCAAUCCACGUCUGAGGAUUUCAAUUGACAGAAUGCCAAUAAAUUCAGAUCCAGAAGAGGAAGAAGAGCCGGAGAUAGAACCAGAGCAUGAAGCUGAAAUUCACAACAACCAACCACCAAUUCAUGAUGAUUUUUGGGAUGAAGACUUUCUUAACCGACUAGAUGAUCCUCAAUCCCAACCACCUACAACACAAAACACUCAAGGUUCUAUAAUGUAUGAUUUUCUUGACACCCCACAACAAAAUAUCAUCCAACCACCACCAUAUACCACCCCAAGAAAUGCAUAUAACCGUAAUUAUCAGUCAACUUACCAACUGAAUUCAAUGUCAAAUUUUGGUUACAAUGACCCAAACCAAGCUGGACCAUCCACCGGUAACUACUUCUCCUAUAAUGACCCAAGCCAAGCUGGACCGUCCAACACCAAUUACCCCCCCCCCCCCCUACAACGACCCCCAAUACUCAAUGUACACCAACCAAAACUACAACCAACCAACACCAACAAACCUACUAUCUCACUUCUCUCCGGAUGCGAUGAACUCCAAUGAACAAUUUCUGGAUAUGGGUUGGCCAACAAGGGAACACGAUGUGUCGUUGUCGUUGGGUUAUGGCAGUCAGACACAAUCAACUGCAGAUAAUAAUGACGAAACCCAACAUGACGCUCAAGUAAAUCGUCAAAGAAAUCGUCGUAGACGAGGGUGUGGGACAGGAGGGCAUUUGUAAUAAUUGUAUAUUUGUUAUUAGUUUAUAAAAAUUAAGUUUUUUCUAUUUUUUUUGUUAUUGGCGCGGAACCCCAAGUUGAGUACCUUGCAACCCCAAGUUGUGGGGUAUUUAAUUUUUUAAAAAAAAAAUUAUAAACUACCUCGCAAGUCCAUCUUGCUUGGUAGUUUAAAAUUAAAAAAAAAAAAUAGGGAAAGUACCCCGCAACUUGGAGUUGUGGGGUAUAAUAAGGACAAAAAUUUCGUCAACUUUGAGGGUACCCCGCAACUUGGGGUUGUGUGGUGCCAGGGGUAUCAGAAAAAGUAGGGUAUUUUUGCAAUUUUUCGAAAAAGUAUGGUAGUUUUGUGUUUUUUGAAAAAAAGAAGGGCAGAAAAAAAAAAUUCGUGUUGUUGAAUGGGUUCUUGAAAAAUGAUAGAAUAAGGAGUGGAACAGGUGUUAUUUUAAAUGUCUUUUUUAAUCUCAAUCAUCCAUUUUUGAUCUAAUGGUUAAUAAACAUUCUCACCAUUCUCAUAUAAAAUAUUCAUUCUCAUAUGAUAUGUCCUAUAUAUAUAUAGAGAGAGAGAGAGAGAGAGAGAUUUGUUAGAACACACCCAUUAGUUUUUAUGUGGGAGUGUUUUAGCAAGUUAUGACUAAAAAGUUAAUAAAUACACCAUAAGAUGUAUGUUGCUAUAACACACCUUCUAAAAAAAAAGUGAGUGUGUUCUAGCAAAUUCUAUAGGCAUUUGCUAGAAUACACACAUAUUUUUUAGAAUGAGUAUUUUAGCAAGUGAAAAAUUAAAAAGUGAUUAAAUACACUUUAACGUGUAGCUUUGCUAAAACACUCCUACAUAAAAACUAGUGGGUGUGUUCCAGCAAACCCUAUAUAUAUAUAUAUAUAUAUAUAUAUAUAUAUAUAUAUAUAUAGGGUUUGCUACAAUAGACCCACCUUUUUUCAUGAAGGUAUAUUUUAGCAAGGUGCACCUUUUACUUUAGACAUAAUAACCCAUAUAUUUUAGCAAGGUAUAUUUCAUGAAGGUAUAUUUAAUAAAAUAAAAAAUAAUCUGAAAAUUUUAAUAAAAAUGAAAAAGAAUCCGGUAAAAUGAAAAAAAUUUGGAAAAAUUAAUAAAAAGUUCUAGAAAAUUUUAAAAAAUAAUAAAAAAUCUGGAAAAAUUUAAAAAUAUGAGAAAAAAUUUAUAUUUCUGGAAAAUUCAGGAACUUCUUAUAUUUCGAAAUUCAUGAAUAUAAUAAGAAAAUACAUUUUAUUUUUUUAAAAAAAAAGUUCAGAUUUUUCUUUCGAAAUUAAAAAGUUUGUUUUUUUUUAUUUUUUAUACAAAAAAUAAAAAUAUUGAAAAAUAUUUCAAUAAUUAAAAACACAUAACAUUAGAUCAUGAAGAAUAGAAUUAAGGGCUUCUUAUUCAAUAGUAUAACAUGACUUAUAUACUGAUGUUAAUCAAAAUCCAUUGUAUCUUGUUAUUCAUCUAGAUUAUAUUUUCGAAUAAAAUAAAAUUCUAGCAAUAAAUUUUCAUAAUUAAAAUAACUAUAUAAUAUUAUAUUGUCGAUUUUUUUUAUAAUUUUAAUUUAAUUCAGAAUGUUUUUAUAUUUUUUGAAAAAUUUGAUAUAUAUAAAUUUUUUCCAUAAUUUUUUAUUUUUUUUAACUUUUUCCAGAUUUUUUUUUAUUUUCGUGAUUUUUUUUCUUAAAUUUUCUAUAUUUUUUCAUAAUUGUUUUUUCAUUAUUUUUUAUUUUUAAUAAUUUUUCCAGAAUUUAUUUUUUAUUUUUAUUUUAAAAAAGAAAUACAAAUGCCACGUGUACCAUUUAAAAAAAAUAAAAAAUAAUAAUAAUGCAGUCAUCACGCCACAUAAUCAGAUAUGCACAGUAAGCAUGCCACAUCAUCUCGCCACGUCAGCAAUUAUGCACAGUCACAUAGAUCAGGGGCUAAAAUCAAAGAAUCUUAUUUUACAUGGUUGGAAACUUUUUUUUUACUGGAAGGUAAACCGGAACUCGCCUAAAUUACAGGGAUAAAUACAUAUUAACCCUUAAUGUUUUUUACUUUAUUUUUUCUUCUCUCUCUCAUUCUAUCUCUUUCGGUUCCCUUUGUUCUUCCUCUUUUUUUUCUAUUCCCUCAUUGGUAAUUCUUAGACAGUCACGAAUCAAGCACAUGAAAUUGAAGAAGAACCUUAAGCUCUCAAUGUUGCUCAAUAGCUUCUUUGUUAAAGGCACAAACGUUUGUUUUGCUUCAAAGAAUUUGGUAAAAUGAAGUAGUUUCUUGAUCUCUUCAUUCAUUCUUCAACAACAAUCACCAUUAUAACACUUAGAUCCCUGGAUUCAAAAUACUACGAGUUUGAUUCAAAAAAUUAUGAAUGGAAAGACCAUCUUAUUUUCCCUUGUUUUUAUACAUACCAGUUUGAUUCAAAAAAUUGAAUCAAGGACCGGUAAUGUUUUGAAAUUAUUGUUGUGGAUUCAACUGAGUUUCAAGGAUAAAAUUAUGUUGAAGGUGGCGAUGGUGAUUGGAAUGUCCAUGAAAGAAGAAUGGUAGAAGAAUAGAAAAAGGGAAACCCGACAUAAGAGAAUGAAAGAGAGAAAUGAAGAAAACUAAGGAAAUAAAAAACAUUAACACUGUGUUUCGUAGAGGAGAAAAAGGAGAGAGAGAAGUUGAAGAGAGAGAAAUAGGAGAGAAGUCCUUCACUUCUGUUGUUUGGUUGUGGUGAGAAACAGAGAAGGGAGAGUUAAAACCUGUGGGACCCACUGCUUUUUGAAUCUUCUCAUGGAUGAGGAGAAACAGGCGAGAGAGUUGCAAUUUUUGCAAUUUUCCAAUUAUGCCCUUCCAUUGCAUGAAGAAAAGACAAAAUCUUAAGUAUAUAAUUGAAUGGUUGUGUUCGUAUGUGAAGUUUAUUGCACUUUUAAUUAAUUUCAUAGUAAAAAAUCCUCAAAGUAAAUUAACUUAGCAACUAAAAUAAUAUGAACCACACUUCACUAUAAAAAAAUUAACUUAUUAACCACACUUCCGUACUAUAACUUAAUGAAAAUUAUUCAUUUUUUAAUUAAUUCAAAUAAAGAUUUUAGUUAACGUUGUUAAAAAAAAUGUAUUGCAGGUAAUAUAAAUUAUUUUUUUCACUUAUUCAAAAAAAAAAAAAAAUUCACAAAAAUGAACAUAAAUUAUGUUUUUCUACUCCAAAUAAUUCAAAUAAAGAUUUUAGUUAACGUUGAUAAAAAAAAGUAUUGCAGGUAAUAUAAAUUUAUUUUUUCACAAAAGGAAACAUAAAUUAUGUUUUUCUACUCCAAACAAUUAUUUAGUUUCUUUUUAUUUUGUUUAAGGGUAUUAUUGUCCUUUAAAAGCAAUUACAUUAUUCUUUCUCUUCUAUCUCUCUUAUCUUUCUCUUCUACCAAACAUUACAUCAAAUUUACUCAAUCUCUCACCUUUUUCUCUCUUCUCAAACUCUCUCUUAGGGUGUGUUUGGUUGUCAGAAGAAAGUGUAAAGAGAGAAAGAGGUGAGAGAGAGUUAGAAAAGAGAGAAGUUGAUGAGAAAUAGAGUAGAUUUGAGAUAUUGUUUGGUAUAAGAGAGAAAGAAGAGAAAUAGAAGAGAAAGAAGUGUGUUCAUUUUUUAAAAGACUUAAAUACCCCUAUACUAAAAAAGUUAAUAUAUGAUAUUGUUAUAUUUGAAUUUAAUUUCAUAUAAACAUUAAUGUACUUUUUUAUAUUAAUUUAAUUAAGAAUAAUUAAACCACAUUUUUACAGAGAAAUUGAGUAAAUUAUUUACUUAAUUAAUUAUUCAAGAUAUUUGAAUUUAAUCGAUUAAAUUAAUUCUUUUUUACGUAGUCAUUUAGAUUAAAUUAAUUCAUUAGUUAACUAAUCAGUAAAUUCCAAUAGUUUAAUCCUGUUUUACAAGAGAGAUCAAAUAAGGAGAAGCAUAUAGUUGCUUAGUUUCCUUCGCAACUUUUGUUCUCGACCUGCUACAACAAUAAAAGAAAAAUACUAGAAAACAAAAUGAUAAAUAAUACUAGUAGCCACUAGGGGUUCAGAACCGAACCGAUCCAAAAAAAAAACCGUCAACCGAUCCAAAAAACCGAAAACCGCAAAAAACCGAUUUUUUUUGGAUGUGUUUGGGCCAUAAAAAUUAAAACCGACCGGUUCGGUUCGGUUUUCGGUUUAUAACUUAAGAACCGGACCGAACCAAACCGAACCACACUUAUUAUACUGUUACUAGACUAUUCUAUUACUUAGGCCGGUUUUGUCAGCUGAAACCCUUCAGAUCGCUCUCAUCAGUUACCAAAGCAAACUAGCCAACUAUCAAAGUACCAAGUACCAAGAGCGUGUUUAAUUCUUUCUUACUCCCAAUGAUGACUUUUGCUAUUAAACUGAAGGAAUCAAAUGGUUCAUUCACUAAUCUACCAACACUCCAAACACUAAUCUCCUCUCUUCUCUCCCUUUGCAAUGCGUCGCUCAGGUAACAUUUUUGUGCAUACUCACUACUACUCUGAUAGUCUUUUCCUUCUCUUCAAUAGCUGAAUCAGAUGGAUUAGAAAGAAUGGGUUUUUUUUGGUCCUAUUUGUGAAAUCCAUGAUCAAAGGGCGCUAUUGAUAAUGUAAUUUGGGUUUCUUAUAAUUUUGAAUGCUACUGGUAGCUUAUAUUUUUUGCAUUAUAAGGAAGGGAUGCGUCCCUGUAGAGUUUGGUAGCUAGCUUUUCUUAAAUAAAAUUAGCUUGUGAAAAUCCAUCCGGAAGAAUAUAUUAGAAAGGAUGGGUUCUAAUUAAAUAAAAUUAGAUUAGAAAUUUAUCUUAGAAAAAUUAGCUUGGGUUUCUUUAAGUAUUUUACUUAAAUAAAAUUUAUCAAUUUGUCAAAAUCCAUGAUCAAUAGUUGAAUGAAAUAGAUUAGAAAGAUCAAGUUCUUUGAUUCACUUGCUUCUUUGUGUAUAAAAAAUGUUGAUUGAUUUUUUUUUUUAUCACUUACUUCUUUAGUAUAAUUUCUUCUUGUAUAAAAAAUGUUUGGAACAACAAUUGUUGAUUUGUUUUUUUCCACGUAAGAAUGUAUGUUUGUUUAAGGAAAAAAAUAAAAUUCAAAACAAUCAAAAUUUAUGUUUGAAAUCUUCUUUGUUAUAGAAUUAUUUGUUAAUUCGUAUGUGUAUACUUUGCAGGCUGAAAACACUCAAACUAAUAAGAGUAGAAUAGCUGAAAAUGUUGAAUCUAUUGCUGAACAUGAACUACUUGCAACACUACCAUGGAUAGCAUUUGUUUAUAUUGUUUCAGGCUACAAAAGUUUCUUUAUAAUUGCAUGCUACAAAAGUUUGCGGCAACUUAUAUGUAUCCGGUAUACUUAUCCUACAAAUUAUAGAAUUAGGAAAGAAUUUUCUACAACAUAAUAUAUUAAAUAUAAAAGAGAUACUAUAAGUCAUAACUUUAUAGGUGUAGAAUAAGGAAAAAGCUUCUCUCAAAAUAAUUUUUAAUAAGAAUAUUACUAUCACUUUUUUACAAUUUGGAUAACCGAAAACCGAUCCAAAUUAAAUCGCGAUAAUUUGGAUCGGAUCGGUUCGGAUUUUUUUUCUACCACCAAUUGAACCGAGCCGAACCGCAUAUGUUUUAUUUUUUGGAUCGGUUCACUUUUUGCCUCAUAACCGAGCCGAACCGCACCGCAAACACCCCCAGUAGCCACUGUAUAUAUCACUGAAACAAGGGAGAAAUGUGGAAAAUAGAAAAAAGUUUGUGUCCAUUUCUCCGCACAUAUGGAGAGAAGUGAAAUAGGCAUGGGUCCCACAAUAUUUUGUCUCUCUUCUCAACCAAACACAAGAGAUUGCCCAUCUCUCUCCAACUUCUCUCUCCCUUCUUUCUCUCUUUUGUAUUUCUCUCCUACCAAACACAUCGUUACUUAUUUCUCUAGAUCUUCACAAUUUCUCUUCGUAACCAAACACACCCUAAUGAUUUCAGUCAAACAAAAUAAAAUCAUUUAUGACUAAACUAAAAUUACACGUAUGUCGCUUUGUCAAAAAGCAAAAAUAUGGAUAUUAAUGUCUAAAAUAAAAGGUACACCUUGUUAAAAUAGACCUUCAUAAAAAAAUAUGAGUCUAUUAUAGCAAACCUCAUUUAUAUAUAUUAUAGUUACUCUCAUUUUUAUUUAGAAGAUAUAAAAAUUAUAUUCAAAUAAUUCACUAAUAACAACAACCGUCGACCCUAUCAAUUGUAUCUUCGAACGACAUUUUGCAGUAACUAGUCUGCACAAAAUAAUCUCAUAACAAUAAUGUGGCAUGCGGAAAUAAAGUAUAGUUUUUUAUUUGACAAAAGAAAUAAAAUAUUGUUGAGAAAUAACAAUUUAUCAGUUUUUAUAAUGAAUGAAAAUGUGUAAAAGUUUUUAUUUUUAAAAGAAAAGGAUUUUUGUUUAGAAAAAAAAAAGGCUUAAUUGAUCCUCUCGUCUCUUAACUUAAUUCUUUUUUUUGAAUUGGUCCUGUAACUCUUAAAAGUCUCAAAUUGGUCCUUUAUAUGUGUUUCCGUCGGUCAAUUUAAUCCUAUUUCGUCAAUUUUAAUCUUCUAAAAAGGGAGACCGUUGGAUAAAGGAGGUUUGUGAGAUUUAACCAUGUAUCACCAACACCUAAUUUAUUUCACUUUUCAUCAUCUUCUUCCCUCAUCUUCAUCUUCAUACAAGCUUCAUCAAUCUUCAUAAAAAAAAACCUAUUUUUUUCUUUAAAAAAUUAAACCAUUUAAUUUCAACAAAUACUACAUAAUCAAACCCUUAAAUCUAGAAUUAACAUCACCACCAUAUUAAUAUAAACCUAGAAGAUCAACAACAAAUAACCCAGAAAACAAAACAAAACUCAUCAUUUUAACUCCUCACCUCAUCAUUAACAAAAUAAAAUCCAUUUCUUAAAACCCAUUUGAAAUUUGAAACCCGUCAUCACUUCAAAACUCAUCAGCAACAGUAAAUAUCUCUAUAACGACAGAUUCAAUGAAAGGAAAAGAGAAUCUUAAAACCCAAUGCUUGAUUAAAUAAAUGUCCCAACCCAUUUCUCACAAACCCAUUAAGCAUCAAAAUUCUCAUACUUGCAAUUGAUUGCUUUCCAAAUAUGAUUCCAACGGAGAUUUGAUUUUGUGUAUGUGGUUGUGAUUCUGAAAAGGACCGUGAGAUGGAGAUUUGAUUUUGGUGCAGGUUCAAGAACACAUGCAUGUUCUAGCGUUUCUGUUGAAAUGGUGUUGGUGUUGAGAUUCUGGUGAUGGUGUUAUUGUGGUAAUUCUGAUUUAGGAGAAGAGAAGAGAAGAAUAGGAGGAGGAAGGAAGAAUAUUAAUAUUUAUGGGUAAUUUUGAUUUUGUGGGUAGUUCAGAUUUGCUGGGUUUAUUUUUGGUUUAAUUGCUCAAUAUUUAUGAAGUUAAUGAAGAGGAAGAUGAAGAAAAAGUAUGAAAACCUUUAUCUUGAUAAGAUCCACAGUUUACUCAACCCUUUGCGGAGAACAAGUAUGAAAAUUUGACAAAUUCUAUUAUUAGAAAAUUUGAUUAAAUUGAAUGUUAUACUAACCCUUGAAUUAUUCAAACAAAUCAGCACCUAAUAACAAUAUGAUACAUUGAGCUGGAAAUUAAUGGAAUUCAAUGCGGCUAUAACAUAUGGGGUGCACCAUGUGCGAAGGUGAUUAUGAUGAUAAUGUUGGAUUUGGGUAUGAGAACAGUGUGAUCUUGGGAAGCAAUGAUAAUGCUAGAAUCGGGUAUGAUAUUUGAAGUUGGUAGGAUGGAUUUUUGAAAGAAAAAAAGAAAUGUAUUUUUUUACGAAGAUGAUGAAGAUUGUUGAAUGUUGGAUGAAGAUGAAGAUGAAGAUGAGGGAAGAAGAGGAAGGAAAGUGAAAUAAAUUAGGUGUUGGUGAUACAUGGUUAGAUCUUACAGACCUCCUUUAUUCAACGGUCUCCUUUUUUAGGAGAUUAAAAUUGACAAAAUAGGACUAAAUUGAUCGACAAAAAUACAUAUAAAGGAUCAACUUGAGACUUUUAAGAGUUAUGAGACCAAUUUAAAAAAAAAAUUAAUUUAAGGGCUGAAGGAUCAAUUAAGGCAAAAAAAAAAAAAACAGUUGUCAAAAACACAAGUACGUUACUAUUAUAAAUUUCUUUCUAUACACAAGAAUGGUGUUCUUUCUGUUAAGCAGUGAAUUUCUGCAUAUUAUAUUUUAUCGAAAAAUUGGUAAAAUAGAUAAACUUGUUCAAGAUGUUCAAUACAUUGAAUUAAAGUGGAUGCAUAAGACAAAUAUCAGUAAAUGACACACACCGGAACUAAUUACUCCAAAGAUCAUUAUUCUGUCGGCCACGUUUUAAAGGUUAAAGUGGAUCAAUCAUACUAUUCCUAACAAUUAUACAAUAAUGGACUAGAUUCAUAAACAUUGAUGUACUUUUCAUUUGUGUUCAACUCGGAAAACAAAGAGACAAAUAAUAUACCAAUAAAAGGAGUGAUAUUUGUACAAUUCUUGUGACAAUUACAUUUCUCUUCUUUUUAUUGAACAAAAAUAAAGGAGAGAAAAAAAGAAAAGAGAGAAUAAAAACACAUGUAAAUAUGAGAAAAAAUGAUUAUUUUAAAAGUUGUUUAAAUGGAGAUGUACACUUUCUCUAUCAAUUUGAUCCCGAUAACAAAUUUGUGAUUGAAAAUGUGUGUCCUAGAAACACCCAAUCAAUAAUGGAACCUUGCAAGCAAGUUGCAUAAACUUGUGGUUGAAAAUGUGCGUCCCACGUGAACGUUUGCUCACAAUUAUUGACCACCCUACUUUGCUGACUUUCUACUUUCAUUGCAUUUAUUCUCAAAGGUCUCCUUCAUAAUAGUUCAGCAUUCAUUAUAUCUAAACAAAUUUCUAAUCUUCUUAUCUUUUCAACUCUUUCUUUCUUUUCACAAAAAAAAAUGGCUGACGCUUUGCUUGGAGUUGUGUUUGAAAAUUUGACGUCUCUCCUUCAAAAUGAAUUUUCAACCAUUUCUGGAAUCAAGUCAAAGGUUCAAAAGCUAUCAAACAACUUAGUUCACAUCAAGGCUGUUCUUGAAGAUGCUGAGAAGAAACAAUUCAAAGAACUCUCUAUUAAGCUAUGGUUACAAGACCUCAAAGAUGCUGUUUAUGUGCUCGAUGAUAUCCUUGAUGAGUAUUCAAUCAAGUCUGGUCAACUUAGAGGAUCAUCCUCUCUCAAACCAAAGAACAUCAUGUUUCGCAGUGAGAUCGGCAACAGGUUAAAAGAGAUUACAAGGAGGUUAGAUGAUAUUGCUGAAAGUAAGAACAAGUUUUCUCUACAGAUGGGUGGAACUCUUAGGGAAAUCCCAGAUCAAGUAGCUGAAGGGCGCCAAACCGGCUCAAUUAUUGCUGAAUCAAAAGUGUUUGGACGAGAAGUUGAUCAAGAAAAGAUUGUCGAGUUUCUUCUCACCCAUGCGAAGGACUCUGACUUCAUUUCUGUCUAUCCCAUUUUUGGUUUAGGUGGUAUUGGAAAAACAACUCUUGUUCAAUUGAUCUUCAAUGAUGUUAGGGUGAGUGGCCAUUUUGAUAAAAAAGUUUGGGUUUGUGUUUCUGAGACUUUCUCGGUCAAGAGGAUUUUGUGUUCUAUUUUCGAAUCUAUCACAUUAGAGAAGUGUCCUGACUUUGAGUAUGCUGUAAUGGAAGGAAAGGUGCAAGGAUUGUUGCAAGGGAAAAGAUAUUUGCUGGUUUUGGAUGAUGUGUGGAAUCAAAAUGAACAAUUGGAAUCUGGGUUAACACAAGAUAGAUGGAAUCGUUUGAAAUCUGUUUUGUCGUGUGGAUCUAAAGGUAGUUCCAUUUUAGUGUCCACUCGUGAUGAGGAUGUUGCAUCAAUCAUGGGGACAUGGGAAAGUCACCGUUUGUCUAGUCUCUCUGAUAGUGAUUGUUGGUUGUUGUUCAAACAACAUGCAUUUAAACGUAACAAAGAAGAGGAUACAAAGCUUGUGGAAAUUGGAAAGGAGAUAGUAAAGAAAUGUAAUGGAUUGCCUCUUGCAGCAAAAGCAUUGGGGGGUUUGAUGAGCUCAAGGAAUGAAGAGAAGGAAUGGCUUGAUAUUAAAGACAGUGAGCUUUGGGCUUUACCACAAAAAAAUUCUAUUUUGCCUAAUGGAUUUAUUUCAUCUAUGGGUAAUUUGGACGUUGAUGAUGUUGGAAACACGGUUUGGAAGGAAUUGUACCAAAAAUCAUUCUUUCAAGAUAGAAAGAUGGAUGAAUAUUCUGGAGACAUUUCUUUUAAGAUGCAUGAUCUUGUCCAUGAUCUCGCUCAAUUAGUAAUGGGGCCAGAAUGUAUGUAUUUGGAGAAAAAAAACAUGACCAGUUUGUCAAAAAGCACACACCACAUUGGUUUUGACCUCAAAGACUUGUUAUCCUUUGAUAAGAAUGCUUUCAAAAAAGUUGAAUCCUUGAGAACAUUGUUUCAGUUGAGUUAUUAUUCCAAAAAAAAACAUGAUUUCUUCCCAACAUACCUUUCUCUUCGGGUUUUAUGCACAUCCUUUAUCCGGAUGCCAUCACUAGGGAGUUUAAUUCAUUUAAGGUAUUUGGAACUUCGUUCUCUUGACAUAAAUAUGUUGCCUGACUCAAUUUACAACCUAAAAAAGCUGGAAAUCUUGAAAAUAAAACACUGUGAUAAACUUAGCUGGCUUCCAAAACGCUUGGCUUGUUUACAAAAUCUUAGACAUAUAGUCAUUGAAUAUUGUGAAUCUUUGUCUCGUAUGUUUCCUAACAUUAGAAAAUUAACUUGUUUAAGAACAUUAAGUGUGUACAUUGUUAGUUUAGAGAAAGGGAAUAGCUUGACAGAGUUACGUGAUCUAAACCUCAGUGGAAAACUGAGUAUCAAAGGAUUAAACAAUGUUGCUAGUUUAUCUGAAGCUGAAGCGGCUAAAUUGAUGGAUAAAAAAGACCUUCAUGAAUUAUGCUUGUCAUGGGGAUACAAGGAGGAAUCUACGGUUAGUGCUGAGCAAGUACUUGAAGUGCUUAAACCUCACUCAAAUCUCAAAUGCUUGACAAUAAAUUACUAUGAAAGAUUAUCGUUACCAAGUUGGAUAAUUAUUCUUAGUAAUUUAAUUUCUCUUGAACUUGAGGAAUGCAACAAAAUUGUGCGGCUUCCGUUACGUGGUAAACUACCAUCUCUAAAAAGACUGAGAUUAUCUCGUAUGAAUAAUCUGAAAUACUUGGAUGAUGAUGAAUCUGAGGAUGGUAUGAAGGUGAGGGUUUUCCCAUCUCUGGAGAAACUCUUAUUAGAUUCUCUACCAAACAUAGAGGGGUUAUUGAAAGUGGAAAGAGGGGAGAUGUUUCCUUGUCUUUCUAGGUUGGAUAUCUGGAAUUGCCCUAAACUGCUUGGACUGCCAUGUCUUCCAUCUCUUAAAGAACUCGAGAUAUGGGGAUGUAACAAUGAGUUACUGAGGUCAAUCUCUACCUUCCGUGGUCUUACUCAGCUUUCCCUAUAUAACGGUUUCGGAAUAACAUCCUUCCCAGAGGGGAUGUUCAAAAACCUUACUUCUCUUCAAUCUCUGUCUGUAAAUGGUUUCCCAAAACUGAAGGAGUUACCAAAUGAACCCUUUAACCCAGCUUUGACGCAUCUGUGUAUCACUUAUUGUAAUGAGUUGGAGUCCUUACCAGAGCAAAAUUGGGAAGGUCUUCAAUCCCUUCGAACUCUAAAGAUUCGUAAUUGUGAAGGAUUGCGAUGCUUGCCGGAGGGUAUUCGACACCUCACAUCUCUUGAAUAUUUAUAAAUGUCCAACAUUUGUGAGAAGGGUGCAAAGAGGGAAUGGGGGAGGAUUGGGACAAGAUAGCUCAUAUUCCAAAAAUACAGUUUAAGUUUGAAUGGGAGGAUUAAGAAGCAGAGACGUUUACCCUUUAUCUGCCUUAAUCACCAUCGCAAAAAUAUAUUUUACUGGUAGGAUCUCAAUUUCCCCUUCUUAUGUUUGGAUUUCAACUGCUCAAAAAUCUUUAUUUUUAUUUUUAUUUUUGAUAAAAAAAUCUUUAUUUUUAUUCUCGUAGUUAACUUCUUUGGAACCCAUUCCACAGAAACAGUUCCUGAGUACGUACAUGAAAGAUAUUUUACUGCUCAACCUACGGACAAUUGUUCUAAUUCUGGUAAUUUUCUUCAUCAUACUUUUAUUUUUUUAAUUUUAUUUUUUGAUUUUUUUUUUAUAAUUUUGCUGAUUUUGUGGAGAUUGAAUUGAAUGGUUAGGAUUUCCUUUGAUACACAAGGGUGGGGUCGACAAAUAAAGGGAGGGAUUAACAGGAACAAACGUACCUAAUGAUGAAGAUGACAUGGUUCGGGUCGGAGCUCAGUGCACAGUAGAAAGUCUGAUCAUCAAGGUUUUCUCCAUUUUUAUUCUUAAGUUUUUGUUGGUCUUUUUUAUUUAUUUGUUUUAGACUGUUUAUUUGAAUGAUAUAUUGUUUGGCUUCCUCUAUGAUAGCUUGUAAAAUAGCAGCAAUGGUUCCUGAUAGAGUUCUCUCCUUGGCUUUGCUAAAUGCAACAGGUGGAGAUUUUCAAUGUUUGCCAGAGGUAUAUGUCCCUUUUAUAAUUCUUUGAACAAUUUGAUUUAUUUUUACGGCACUGUGAUUAGAGCAUUGACGACGCUAUUUUUGUAAGACGUUAACUACAUCAAUGAUUGCUAGCCACACUUUUUAAUUACAAACUUAGUUCAGGACGACUGGACUUGCAUACAUAAUAAGUAUAAUUUGUUGGUACUGAUUUUAGGUGAUCCUUUAGGACAAAUUUAGUUGAGAAUUUAUCUUUCUAUGGCUUUGAGUCAGAAUUUUGUUAAGAAUUUCGUAGUACUAAAAUCGUCUUGGUACGUUAUUUGCAGAUUUUUAAAGAAUAUUGACGGUUGUCGAUGCAUGCACUAAACUCUGACCAACCUGUGAAGUAUUUCUCAAGACAGUUAUCUGGAAGAAGAUGUAUGCUAGUUUUAUCUCUUCCCUGCAUCUUCUUAUCCCCAAAUUACUUUCUAAUUUAAAUUUCUAUAUGCAGGAAUCACUUGCUUUCUCUGUUUUUGUAUGGAAUAUGUCUACGAGUAAAAUUAUUGUGAGAAUUGGGCCAUAUCUUUAGAAUUGACGCUGAGCUUGUUAAUGCAACAAAUCAAAAUUCUUGGUUCAAGCUAUUAGCCAGGUGUGUAUACAGCUCUUCAUUAGGAAGGUGUGUAUUUAGCUAUUUCAUGAUUCUAGUCGAGUCACUCAUGUUAUUUCAUUAUGUUUGUGUCAGAUAUGUUGUGGAAUGCUGCUGAAUCGCAGCCAUGUUUGUGUCGGACAAUGUUAUUGAUCAAGUUGUGUUGUGUCCACUGCUUUUGCUGAAAGCAAGAGGAUACUUCAGCUGAACCACAGAAACUAUAAGAGGUGAUGAUUUUGGAUGAUAUCAAUGAGAAAUCAACCGUUUAAUUUGAUAACAAAGUGAAUUUUACAUCUUUUAACUCUUUAUAUUUUAGUAUAUUAGCAUUAGUCAUAUCACUUACAGAGAGCAUCUCCUGUGAAACUGAACAGGUGACACUUAUUUCGCUUCGAACUAUGGAUAUUGUUGAAUGUGAGGAAUUCAGAUCCCUGCCAUAAGGUAUUUGGCACCUCACUUCACUUGAGUUUUUGAAUAUUCGUGGUUACCCAAAAUUUGUUUAGUGGAAUGAAGACAUUUUUUAAGAGACUUUAUUCAUGUGAACCUUGUGAUUUUGUCUCAGACGAAAUCGAUUAAAAUUGUCAACCUUAUGGGUCAGAUUAUCGUUAUCGCAUCUCCACUUCCGUUGAUGCUGGUAUUGAUAUGGUAUAGAUCUUCAUUCCUAUAGUAUUAAUUUUAACAUAUAUUACUUGAUUUCAAUUUAAAUACAUGUAUCCAUGAAAAUAUGCAGGUGAUGGUCCUUCAUUUAUGAAAUAGCCCUUUCAUGUAUAAUAUAUUUAUGAAAGAGUCGGAGUUUCAUGUUCGAUCAGGGGAAACACCAAUAGCCGGAAUUGGCGACGUUGUUAAGAAAUAUUAGGAAUGAAGUUUGCUGCUGAAGAUUUCAAUUUCCUUUAACUGAUAGCUCUUUGCUGGUUAUGGUUAAUUUCAAGGUAAGGCAUAGUUCAUAUCUUAGUGAAUACUUUAACAUGAAUUUUCUGCCUCGUCAAACUAAUUUAUUUUAACAUACAUAUUAAAACCUUAGUCGGCUUUCUUUUUAUGGCAUGCUUCAACAAAGUAAUACUCUUUCCACCUCCUUGUGGUUGGAGUUGGUUUUCAGGACUUUAUAAUGCUAAUUACCUUCACAUAUCAUUUUUUCACCAAACAUAUUUAAAAUUCCAUCCUUAUAGCAAAAGAAAAACAAUAGUAUAUUUUAGAUGUAUGGUAAGAUUUGAUAAAGGAAUUGAAUGUAUUUUUUUCAUACAUACAGGCAAGGGACUGAACGUAUUUUGGCCUGAAAAAUCAAUCUCCAAAGAAGGCAGUGAACAAUGGUGAUCCAACACAUGAGCCAAACUCAAUUCCAACUAAUAACAGAUGUUGAAAAGAGUUAUAUAUAGCUUCUCCUAAGCCUCAGGAGGUUGUCCUUGAUUUUACAAUAUCUACUAAAUGGAAGGGGGUAGAGAAGUAUAUACCAUUGAUGUAACCAUCCACUAAGCAAUACACACAACCACAAAGGAUUUGAGGAGUUAAUGAAUAGUCCGGUGCAACAGUCGUGCGAAAAAAAGCAACAGAUGAAGUCUCAACAAACUUGAGUUCAUUAUCAUCAGCACACAUGAAUGAUCCUUAAGAAGGGACUUCAGCUUGAGGAUAUAUAAUAUUGAUUAACUUCGCAAAUUAGCUUCCACUGAAUAUAUUUAAGAACUCAUCCUUAUUUUAUUUCAAAUUCUUGUUUCUUAUCUGUUCAGUAAGUGAACUUGUUAUAAAUAUCCCUGUGUCUGGGAAGUUUGUUUAUAAUAAUUCGUGAUAAGAACUAGGAUUCGACAUAAAACAAAGUCAAUAGAAUUCUCGAUCUCUCAAACUCUGAAAUGCUUAUUAUUUUAAUGAUUCUAGCUAGAGCAAAGUGGUUGAUUUACUGCUUGCAGACGUUGCACAAAUGAAGGGUGGUUGUGCCUGAGUCGAACACAUCUGAUGUGAAAAUUGGAAAUAUUAGUGAAUAUACACUAUCAGCGUAAAAUUGUUUUGCAUUAACGUUCAGAUAGAGCUCAUUGUUUCCAUGUUUUGCCAAGCUAUGUUUUCAUCUCUACAAUGCAAUUGUAUAAUUCUUCUUUUCCGCCAUGCCUCCCUCGGCCUCAUCAUCGAACUUAGUUGAUUCUCCAAAUUAUUAAAAUCAAACCACCAGAGAAUGCCAAUAUAUUUAGCAAGGUUCCCUAAUUAUCCUGGUUAUGCACAAUUUAUCUGGCGCCAAUAUUUGUUUGUGCACUCUCCUUCUCUUUUUCUUUUUUAAACUGUGUGAUUACUUGUAAUAUUAGAUAGCUUGCGCAGCAAGUUACUCUGCCAUUCCAUAGAUCUUUACUGUGUACUAGCAUCAUAUGAUUCUAAUCCUAGAUAAUAGUUUGUUAGAGUUAGUUAGGAUCAUAUAGAGCUUUAUAUUAGCUUUGUUGUAACCAAUUUCAGAUCAAUUCAAUGAAAUCUAGAAUUUUCUCUAAUUUGUUAGAGUUACCUUUUCUCUUUUUCCUAAAAAAAAAUAAAAAUAUACAGCUUUAUAUAGCUUUCUUGUAACCAAUUUCAGAUCAAUUCAAUGAAUCUAGAAUUUUCUCUAAUUUUCUCUCUUUCUUCUUCAUUGAACUUCUGCAUUUUCUCUGAUUCCACCAUGGAUAUGGUGAAGUUUAAGAGAAUUAAUAGAAUAAAACCUAAAUAGGAUUAGAAGAAAACCUUUGUGUAAUCUAAAGACAAUAUACACAAAUAAUAAUAUUGUAGUUGUUGUGAAUACGGACUCAAAACUCACACCAAUACAAACUAUGAUGUGUGGAGCAAAGGAAAGUAGUAACCAAUAUCAAAGUGAACACAAGCAAUAAUCAACAAUAACAACACCUAGAUCUAAUCUAGGAAUCAAAGUGAAAAGCACAAAUUCACAAGCAAAAGAUAAAAGGAGAGAAGAGAGGAACAAACACACCAAAGAUUGUUGACCAGUUCGGUCCAACUUGACCUAAUCUGGGGGAGAGAUUGAUCUCUCCAAUCCACUAUCAAUGAGUAUUCUUACAAAGAAAUACAAAAGGGUUACAAGAAAUUAGCUUCAACAAGUUCACAAAGAACCCUAAUUUCUACCCUUUUUCCCAAUCUCACAAAUGAACAAGACACUCAAUGAUUUUCACUCACCAAGGUGUUUACAAUGUUUCGCAACCCAAGAGAACUCUAAUCAAAGACCCUCAACCCUAAAAUUACCUCCUCUGAUUUCCCAAGUUUCUCUCUCUUCAAGCUCUCCUUCAAAAUCUGCAAAGAACACUUAUAUAGCAGUUUUCAGCGUCAAAAUCGUGUCACGUUUUCCCAAAAUUGUGUCACGAUUGAUGCGUACGACCAACCUUAUCCUGAAAACUUGCCUAGCAAGUCGAAAAUCGUGUCACGUUUUCCCAAAAUUGUGUCACGAUUGGACACUCUGAAAACAUCUCUCGACAUUACCAAAAUCGUGACACGCUUGUCAAAUUGUGUCACGAUUUCUCUGUUUUCUAACUUUGCAAUUUGAAGACAUACACACCAGGAGUUGUGAACCUAAAGGAUACAAAUAGAAAAGGAAAAAAAAAAGAGCUGAAAUGGUUGAUAACAACACUUUGAAUAAUUUUGGCAAUGUUAAUGACAUGUCUUAGGGUAGUGGAACAACUAACUUGGAACAUAGUAUUGAUGCUAACACUAUUCAUGAUCACUAACUUAGUCAAUUAAAACAUCAACCAGAUUCUCACCAUGCUCCCUAGCAAUGUUGAAAUCUUUAAUGCCGUCCAUUCUCUUAACAAGGAUAAUACUCCUGGCCCUAAUGGAUUUGGAGCAUUUUCCUUUCAAACUUAUUGGAAAUUAUUAAACUGGAGGUUAUAAAUGUUGUUAUGCAAUUCCUCUCAAAUGGACGGCUUCUUCCUAAUUUUAAUCCAAAAACUAUUGUUUUGACCCCAAAGGUCCCUAAUGCUGAUAAUGUGAAUCAAUUUAGGUCUAGAGCGUUAGCCAACUUCAAGUUCAAAUUAAUUACAAAAAUCAAUGCUAGAAGAUUAACUUAGAUCAUGCCAUUAUAAAAAAUAUGUUUGAAUUACAAAGCUAUAGAUUUGUCAAUGUUUGAAAGGUCUUGGCCUAAUCUCCCUUUCUGUUUGUUUUCUUUCCUUUCUUUGAAAACAACGUAACUAUGUGAUACACUUAGAGCAUCACCAUUUACAAAAAAAAAAAAAAACAAUUGGCAUUUGCCAAAUAUUUUGAUACUUUAGACUGGCACUUUUCUAAUAAGGGUUUUCAAAGCUUUUGAUUUAAACUGUACUUUUUGCAAUUGGAUAAAUUGUAGUCUCAAAUCAACAAUGCUUUUUAUGUUGUGAAUGGCAAACAAGAAGUCUACUUUUCUUUUAAGAUACGAGAUAGACAGAGAGACCCCAUCUCCCAUUUACUUUUAUGUCGUAAUAAAGAAGUCAAUAGUGUAACAUCUCAUACUGUUUUUAGGAUUGACGAUUGACCCCACAAAUCAAUAUGAGUCUUUUUAGUAUAUUUUGUCCUUACUCGCACGCUUUUCGAGAAACUUUUCAGAAGGUCACCCAUCCCAAAAUUGCUCCAAGUUGAGCACGCUUAACUGUGGAGUUCUUAUGGUUUGACCUACCGAAAAGAAGAUGCAUCUUGUUUUUAUAGAUAGUACCAAACAAUUCAUAUAAGCCUCCCUUCAACAAUGAUGUUCCAUACUUGCACAACCUCAGGAUCCCCCUCAUUCCGAUGUGAUUUGGUUUUGCCUAUAAGCAUGCCAGGAGUCGGACCACUACCUGCCCUUGUCAGUCUCGGACGUUACAUGACCACCAAGCAGAGGCAUUACAUUCUCAACUGCUUCCGCUUGGUUCGUCCCCGAACCACAUCGUACUGGAGAGGUCUACUUUGAUACCACGUGUAACAUCUCAAACUGCUUUCAAGAUUGCCGAUUGACCCCACAAACCAACACGAGUCUUUUCAGCGUGUUUUGUCCUCGCUUGCACGCUUUUCGGAAAACUUUCAAGAAAGUCAUCCAUCUCAAAAUUGUUCCAAGUCAAGCACACUUAACCGUAGAGUUCUUAUUGUUUAGGCUAAAACAAUUUAUAUCUUGUUUUUAUAGGUAGUAUAAAACAAUUUAUAUAAAAACGACACACAUAAAAAAUAUUAAUUUUACUUCUUAUUGUAGUACAAUGGUAUUAUUUUAUAGUUAUAUUCUAGUUUUUCUUAUCUUCUAAAAUCCAACAAGACAUGGAGGCUAUUAAAACUAAUUAAAAUGUAAGAGUAAUAUAAAUUUUGAAGUGUUUCUCAUAUCUUCUAAAACCCAACAAGACAUCUAAAUUAUUUAUUAUGAUAUCAAAAUAAAAAUAAAGACUAUGAAGUAAGGUAAAAUUUAUUUAUCAACCUAACUAUUAAAGUUAUUCUUAUAAGGCUGAUAUGCCUAAAUUGUAUAACAUGAUGAUACCUCCAAAAUUAAUGGAGAAGAGGACAAUCAAAAUAAUAAUCUUUAUUAACUUAAAGUAAGUUUUUUUGGUACAAUAAAGCAAGCUUAUUACAGUAGAACACUAUAACUGCAAGUUUCAUCAAAUUAAAAAAAUAAAGGAAAAUGUUAACUUGUGCUCUUAAGACAUAAACUAAUGAAACAAAUAUAGAAAUAGUUUAUUGAAAUAUGUGCAUUACAUUUAAUUUUUAGUUUUUUAAUGAAUUGAAUGCACAAAAUUUUAUAAAAUAUUUCUUCUUUUAAAUUUCUUAACAUGAAAUCUAAGGACAUAACUUAACACUACCCAAAAAUAAAAUACUAAAAUUAUUGAAUGUCAUCCAUGGUCCGAAACUAAUAUAAUCAUAAGUGCGCUGCUACCAAUUCACAUUUGUGAUUAAUACAUCUACUUACUAAGUCCUUAGUAUUUUACCAUUUUGCCCCUUUGAGGGGCAUUUUAGUAAUUUUAUAUUGAUGGGGUGUGGUUAAUGCACCCUCAUCAUUUUAGGUGCAUUUCUCAUUUUGCUCUUCACCAUUUUUUUAAUUAUUUUAUAAUUUUUAUAUUUUUAAUAACUUUUACAAUUUUUAUUUUUUUAACUAUUAUUCAAUUUGUUCAUCCAAAUUCAGUUGCUUCUGAAUUGUCGUUGUGGGAGAGUAAGGUAUCGCUUGAUCCGGCAUUUUUCCAACUUCUCUACAUUUUUAAGGAGAAGUUAGAUCAAACACACUAUCAAUUAUUUUAAUUUCAAUAUUGUUUAAUCAUCACAACCUCACAAAUAAUUUUAUUCACACUGUCAUUUAAUGAUACCAAAUACUAUUAUUUCCUUUCUUCAACCUCGCAAAUAUUUACACACACAUUAAUGUUUAGAGUAAUAUUUUAUGUCCGUCUGUCUGUGUUUUUGUUAAGCUGAUGCAUAUAAUUUUUUUUAGUGUUGCUUGGUUGAGUGCUACUUCACCGAUUUGUUUUAACUAUUUUCCAAUUUUUAUAUUUUUAAAUACUUUUAACUAUUUUCCAAUUUUUCCUCCCAAAUUAAGUUGUUUCUACAUUGCCAUUGCGGGAGAUUAAGAUACCGUUUGACCCGGUUUUUUUUUUACUUCUCAACAUUUUUAAAAAGAAGUUAGGUCAAACACAAUAUCAAUUAAGUACUUACUAGAAAGGAAACAUUUUUUAAUGCAUAAAAUUGAAUGGAAUGAGCUUUGGCCAAAAGUUGUUAAAUGCUACUUUAAAAAACUACUUCUCGACAAUAUAUUUCACAAACACCCCUUUUCAACUCACGCUGGAAACCUUUUCUUUUAUUUUUUAAUAUUAUAUUUCAAUAUAUUUUCUUUUCAUUUAACUUUUUUUUUUUUUGAACAAUUCCAUUUAAUUUUAUUAUCUUUUUUUCAAAAGAUUUUUAUUAUCUUUUUAUCACUUAUAUAUUUAAUUUCAAUAUUGUUUAAUCAUCACAACCUCACAAAUAUUUUUAUUCACGCUGUCAUUUAAUGAUACCAAAUAUUUUUAUUUCCUUUCUUCAACCUCGCGAAUAUACACAUACACACAUUAACGUUUAAAGUAAUAUUAUAUGUCCGUCUGUCUGUUUUUUGUUACGCUAAUGCAUAUAAUUUUUUUUAGUAUUGCUUGGUUGAGUGCUACCUCACCGAUUUUUAUUAACUAUUUUCCAAUUUUCAUAUUUUUAAAAACUUCUGAUUAUUUUCCAAUUUUUUUAUUUUUAACUAUUUUCUAAUUUUUUUUCUCACAAAUUCAGUUGCUUCUACACUGCCGUUGUGGGAGAUUAAGAUAUCGUUUGACCCGUUUUUUUUUUCUCUUCAACUUCUCUACAUUUUUAAGAAGAAGUUAGGCCAAGUACAAUAUCAAUUAAGUACUUACUAAAAAAAUGUACUUUUUUUAAUGCAUAAAAUUGAAUGGAAUGAGCUUUGGCCAAAAGUUGUUGAAUGCUACUUCAAAAAACUAUUUGUCGACAAUUUAUUUCACAAUCAUCUCUCUUCAAUUCACGUUGGGAACCUUUUCUUUUAUUUUCAAAUAUUAUAUUUCAAUAUGUUUUUUUCUUCCAUUUAAUUUUUUUUUAGCCGUUCCAUUUAAUUUUUUAAAGGAGGUUCCAUUUAAUUUUAUUACCUUUUUUUCAAAGAAAUUUUAUUAUCUUUUUAUCACUUAUAUAUUUAAUUUAAAUAUCGUUUAAUUAUAACAACCUCACAAAUAUUUUUAUUUACGCUAUCAUUUAAUGAUACAGAAUAUUUUUAUUUUCUUUCUUCAACCUCGCAAAUAUACAGACACACACAUUAGCGUUUAGAGUAAUACUUUAUGUGUGUCUGUUUUUUUGUUACGCUAAUGCGUAUAAUUUUUAUAAAAUUUUGAUUUUAAUUAAAAGUAAAAUUGUAGAUGUCUUUUCUUCAAAAAAGGUAUAGAUGCCUAAAAAAAUUAUGCUUAUGUUAUAUAUAUAUAUAUAUAUGGGUUUGCUAGAACACACCCACUAAUUUUUAUGUGGGAGUGUUUUAGCAAGUUAUAACUAAAAAGUUAAUAAAUACACCUUAAGGUGUAUGUUGCUAUAACACACCUUCUAGAAAAAGCAAGUGGGUGUGUUCUAGCAAAUCCUAUAGGCAUUUGCUAGAAUACACCCACUUAUUUUUUAGAAGGAGUAUUUUAGCAAGUGAAUAACUAAAAAGUGGUUAAAUACACCUUAAGGUGUAGCUUUGCUAAAACACUCCCACAUAAAAACUAGUUGGUGUGUUCUAGCAAAUGCCCAAAUAUAUGUAACAAUUGGUCAGGUUCGAGGUUGCUCAUCAACCUACAUCAUCCGGUUGUUGAGAAGUUUAAGACUUAGUAAGUUUGCAUUAUGAUUUCACAAUACAGUGUUAGAGUAACUUAUUAUUUCACAAUCCGAUUUGAUUGAUUUUUGACCAUGUUUCUUGAAUUGUUGUCAUGACUUUAACACUUCUCAAGCUCAUAGUCAAACUUCAGUUAAAACUUAAGUCAGAGUUCGACUUCUUCUCAACGUACUUCAUACAACGAUUUUUCCAAACUGUCACAUGUUAGGCCAAUUGCUGAAUUUAUAAACUUAGUCAAUGUCUGCUUUUUUUAUGCACAAACAUGCUUUAAGUUUUUUUACGCACAAAUUAAAAAUACAUAUUGCAUUAUUCUUUAUUUCAUGUGCAUAAUUUGUGUUAGGAAACAUAUUGCAUCACUAUUUAGAAAACAACUAAAUUCAAUCAUAACCAGUUUGGAUUGUAUUAUGAGAGCUGCACCAAAUGUUCGAAGACAUCAAUGUCAGAUGGUGCUGGCUAUAUAUGCACAUGUGGAAGUGAUGCUUAAUUUCCAUUUGUUUCAACAAUGUUAAUUGGUCAACGGGGUGCAUAUAAUGUACAUGCAUGCAUUUAUCUAGAAUUUAUAGGAAGAUAAUAGGAUGAUAAAGUAGAAGUCAAGUUACAUUUUCUUUAGCUUAAAAUCAGUUAUGCUACCUUUAUUUUAUAAAUUAUAUGUAACUAUAUUCGCAUACAUCUUAUCCAUAUGCAUUAGACUAAUAUUGCAGUUAUUUUCCUGUUUAGCAUUUCCCAAACGAGGUGUCAAGAACAAUUCUGAAAGGAAAGCGCAAAACAAUCACUCUUAUUGAUGACCAGACACAGAGACAGUACAACUGUCAUCUCAUUACCGCCGAUAGAGCAAGCUAUGAAAAUUACUUGGGUGGUCAGUGGUUCAAUUUCUGCAGAUAACGAGUGAUGGAAGAAGGUGGUAAACUCAUCUUUGAUCUCGAAAAGUCACAGAAGAAAGUGCAAAUUCGAGUUGUUCCAAAGUAGAUAUUUGUUGUUGAACUAUUUUAACUUCUACUAUUUUGAUGUAUCGCUUUGGACUGAAGUCGUAAACUAUCUUGAUUUUGGGAUGUCAUUUGUUCUUUUCAUUUUGUCUGAUGUAAGUAUUGGCAAAAAUUCCUUUUUGGUUAGUCUAUGAAACUUGCAAUCUCUUUUAUAAACCUAACUAUUAUGUAACGUUAAUCUGUACAUUGUUGGUUCCUUCAUUGGUUCCAAUUAGUAUCAUAUUAAUUGUAAUGUUGUUUUUCUAAUCUCUUGAGAAAAAUAAAACAUGUUAUUUUCCUACAGUAAAUCUUUACAAUGCUUUGGUAAAUGUUUUAGAAAUGUGCAUAUAUAUAUAACUUCUAAUUAACACUGCAAUUUGUUUUGUACCUAGCACUUGUCAAAUGAGAUAUCAAUGACAUUUUUAAAAGGAACACAGAAAACAAUCACACUCAUCGACAAACAAGCUCAAAAAAGGUAUAAGUGUCGCUUGAUAACGGCAGAGAGAGCAAGUUACAAAAAAUACUUAGGCGACCAAUGGUUCAAAUUUUGCCGAGAACGUAUGUUAGAGGUAGGUGAUAAGUUAAUUUUUUUUAUCUAGAGAAGCCACCUAAAAAUAUGCACGUUCAAGUCGUUUCCAAAUAAAGAUUUGGUGUUCAUGAUCCACACUUUCAACAUAUCACCUUAACUUUAAUUCUAGACUAGAUUAUUUUCACUCACUGAUGCUACUUCUUUGCUUGAUUUCAUUUGAUGUAAAUAUGGGUAUUACAACAAAACUCUUUUUUUUUUUUUUUUUUUUUUUAUAAUUUUGGAUAAUAUGUAAAUUCACACAUCAUUGAUUCCUUUAUUGGUUCCAAUAGUUUUCAUCCUAAAUAUUAUGUCAAUUCCUAAUCUCAUAAACUGAUUAUAUGCUCUCUUAAUCAGUCCAUACAUAUUUUAUGAUGAAUCACGAUGUUCCUUCGUUUUAACAUCUCUUCUUUCAAAGAAUUUUUUUAUCAAAUAUGUUAUUGAACCCGUGCUUCUAACUAGUUUAUAAAUAUAAAACAAGUUCCCACUUUUUGGACAAUCAGCAUCAAUUUGACAUUUAUCACGUGCUGUAAUAAGAAAAGAAAAAAAGUCAAGAAAAUAAUGCUACUAUUAAAUGAUUGUGUACGAGCUACAAAGUAAAGAAAGAAAUUUGAAAAGAAUAAAAGGAAUGGCUUACCAACACCAAAUUUCGUUGCGAUGAGAAAUAAGGAAAUAAAUAGAAUCAUGACACAAACAAACUUAAGAAUUUGAACCAUAUUUUAUCUUGUUUGAGUGUAAAAAAUAGAAAAUGAUUUGGUCUAUUUAUAAUUUUCCUGCUCUCUAAAAUAAUGAAAUAUUUUUAGCACUUACAAAGUUGAAACCGUCGUUCAUAAUAUUAUGAUCAUUAUUAAAUAUUUAUUAAGUAUAUCAAUGUGUUGUGUUUGUUCUUUUAGCACACUUAAGGUGGGUCAAAUAACAAAAUUACUAAUCAUUAAAAUUCAUUCUUUAUAUCUAACUUUUAUUUACUUUUUUUAAAGUUAAAAGUUUUCUUUUAGACCAUCGUAAUAUUAUUAUUUUGGAAUAAUAUACAUAAUUGGAGAUGAGAAAUAAGUAGAGUGUAUUGUAGGAUCAACUUUUAUUGUUGAUAAAAUCGUUGAAUUAAAAAAAACACCUUUCCUUGAUUUAAAAAAUUGAUGUGUAUUUUAUAGAACUUUUUUUAUUCAAUAAUAUUUAAGGUUCAAAAACUCAACCUAAAAGUAGUGGUUUAGGGACAACCUAAAUGCAGAUGACAUUUAUCUAUAAGAACAAUUAAAAGUAAUAAAAUUUCAGCGUCUAAAAACAUCAUAUAUAUAUAUAUAUAUAUAUAUAUAUAUAUAUAUAUAUAUAUAUAUAUAUAUAUAUAUAUAUGAGUUUUGCUAGAAGAUAACUUUUAUCAGUGGCGGAACUAGGAAAAAAGUAUAGGGUGGGCUAUAAAUAGUGAUGGAGCUUAAUUUUCUUACAGGUACAUUUUAUCAUUGGUUAGUUUCAAUGACUACAAAUUUGUUAUUUGUUGAAUAUAAUUCAAACCGGUAUUUUAAAAUCCGAACCGUUUAUCAACCUUGAUAAACUACAAGAUAAUUGAUCGAACAACUAGGUCAUUAAACCUAACGACUGAAUUAAAUGACUCAACUUCAAUAAACAGAUGUAUAGGUAUUAAAUCGAAUUGAAUCAAACGACCGAGUAAAAAAAAAAACUCAUGACAUAUAUAUAUAUAUAUAUAUAUAUAUAUAUAUAUAUAUAUAUUAAUGUAAAAAAGAUCAUUACAUAAGAAAAUAUACUUAUAAUCAAGUACAAUAAUGAAAUCAUAUUGUACUUGCCUCAAUUAUUUUUAUGAUUUCUAACAAAUUCUAUUUUAUUUUAUUUAUGAUUUCUAAAAAUUAUUUUUAUUUUUUAGAAAAUAGGAAUGAAUCAUAUUUAAACUAAGAUCAAUAUGAUAUCUGAAGUAAGAAAUGAUGUUAGUGAUUGGCCCUUGCCUCAAGUCACUAACGUUGAUGAAUGGGUUCCUUUUGAAGGGCAACUAUUUGAAGAUAAUGAAUAUGUAAAUUCUUUAACAUUUCAAGAGCUACAACAUGAACCCUUGCCUCAAGUCAACAACAUUGAUGAGGGGGUUCCUUUUGAAGGGCAAGUAUUUGAAAGUGAUAAUGUUGCUUAUGAAUUUUAUUGUUUAUUUGCAAAACAAAAUGGAUUUUCUAUUAGGCGUGAUCACAUUUAUAAAUCUAGUAAAAAUGUGUCUGAAGAGAAUCCAUCUGGUGUUUAUAAGAGGGAAUUUAUUUGUCAUGGUGGUGGUAUUGUUAAACCACGCAAAACUGUUGAAGUGGAAAAUCAAAGGAAACGAAAAUCUUCAAGAUGUGAUUAUGGUGCAAAGAUGGUAGUUAAUAAGAGAACAAUUGGCUUUGAGAAAAAAUGGGUGGUUAAAUAUUUCAACAAUUCUCACAACCACGAGUUAUUGGAUAACAAAGAGGUUCGAUUUCUUCCUGCUUAUCGUAACAUUCCAAUUGUUGAUCAAGAUCACAUACUAUUAUUAUCUAAAGUUGGUUGCUCUGUAAGUAUUAUAAUGAGAGUGCUUGAGUUAGAGAAAAGAACGGGCACAGGAAAUUUACCAUUCUUAGAAAAAGAUAUUAGAAAUUUUAUUCAGUCAUAUAGUGGUAUUGGUAAAGAAAGUGAUGCUGCAGAUGUUCUCAGAUUGUGCAAAAGUUUGAAAGAUCGAGAGGAGGCCUUCCAAGUUGAAUUCACAAUUGAUGAAAGUAACAAAUUGGAGCAUAUUGUUUGGGCAUUUGGUGAUUCAAUUCGCGCAUACGAAGCUUUUGGAGAUGUUGUAGUUUUUGAUACCACAUAUAGAAUAAACCGUUAUGGGAUGCCUCUUGGAAUAUGGGUUGGUGUUGAUAAUCAUGGAAAUUCAAUUUUUUUUUGGUUGCGUUCUAUUGCAAAAUGAGAAGAUUUCUUCCUUCGAAUGGGCUAUAAAGGUAAAUUUCUAUUUACUCAAAGUUGUUAUCACUGUUAAAUUUUUAAAUUUGAAACUUUAUUAAAUUAAUUUAGAUUUAUGUUACAAUUUUCAGAGUUUCCUAGCUUUUGUGAAAGGAAAAUAUCCAAAAAUAAUUCUUACCGAUCAAGAUCUUUCAAUUAAAGAAGCCAUUGCAACGGAAUUGCCAAACACAAAACAUGCAUUUUGUAUAUGGCAUAUUGUCGCAAAGCUGUCAAGUUGGUUUUCUUUUCCACUAGGUUCGAGAUAUGAUGACUUUAAACAUGAGUUUCAUAAGGUAUAUCAUUUAGAAUGUGCAGAUGAUUUUGAACGAGAAUGGAAAAUAAUGGUCUCACAGUUUGGUUUGGGCGUGGAUAAGCAUAUUGACUUGCUCUUUUCCCAUCGUAAAUUUUGGGCCUGAGCUUAUUUGAAGGACUUUUUUUUUGCUGGAAUGACAACAACAGGACGCUCAGAAUCGAUAAAUUCAUAUAUAAAAAGAUUCUUAGAUGCUAACAACAGGACGCUCAGAAUCGAUAAAUUGUUAUAUUUUUGUGUAGGUUGGUGUUGCUGUCAAAAUUAGAAAUCAAGCUGGAGAAGAGGCACGAAUGCGUCAAAAGUAUCAUAAUCCUCAUAUUACAACACAUUUUCCUAUUGAAGAACAUGCCUCGUCUAUACUCACACCUUAUGCCUUUAAGUUGCUUCAAUAUGAGAUCGAAUUAUCCGCAAAGUAUGAAGCAAUUGAAGCUGACAAUGGCUCUUAUGUUGUGCAACAUCAUACCAAAGUUGAUGGUGGUCGUAUAGUAAGUUUGAUAACAGAAGAAGAGUCAAUUCAUUGUUCUUGUAAAGAGUUUCAAUUUUCAGGAAUACUAUGUAGACAUGCAAUUCGAGUGCUAAUGUUUAAAAAUUGUUUUGUUCUUCCAUCAAAAUAUCUUCCUUUUCGAUGGAGACGAGAAAGAUCAUUGAUCCCAAAAUCUAGUCAUGUGAUUAACUGCAAUGAUGUAUCCUCUGCCAAAUUUCAGUCUCUAAUUCGAUGUUUGGAAGUCGAAUCAUUAAAGACAAGUGAACGAGAACAGGUUGCUACAAGAGAGUUAGAAAAUAUCAUCAUAAAGAUAAAAAGGCAUGCCUGAAACUCAAGAACAUGUGAUUGAUUUGGAAGCGGAUGUUUCCAACAAUGACGACUACGACGUUGAAAAUCCUGUUGUUUCAAAAACAAAAGGUCGGCCAAAAGGAUCAAGACCAAAAGGAGGGGUUGAAGCUGCCAAGAAGCCUCGUCGUUGUCAUGUUCCAGAUUGUGGUGGAACUAAUCAUGACUCACGAAACUGUCCAAACAAAAAGAGAAAAAUGGAAGUAUUGCCUUCUCAAUCUCCUAAUAAGUAAGUUUUAAUUGGUGUGUCUUGUUCUACUCAUGACUAAUAUAUUAAAUUAAUGUUGACUGAAUUUUUAUGGUGCUUUGAUAGGAUCAUGAAGGGUUGGAAGUAGUCAUCUUGAAAUAGUGAAUUUGACAGAUGAAGCAGCCAAAUAGUUUAGAUCAAACCGUGUAAUUAGUGAAUUUUGUGGCUGCAAUCUGUAAGAUCAAACUAGCAGUAUAUUUUGUAGGAUUAUUAUGAUCAAAUUGUAUAAUUACUAGUAUAUUUUGUACCAGUAUAUAGCCUGUGUUUUGUUCCAGUUCGCCCAAUCUUUCUCUUCUUGAGAGGUCCUGUUUGGCUUAAUAUAUUAUUGCACAUUAUUAUGAUUAUGUGAAAUGUUGAUGUUAAUUAUUGAACAUCAAAUUGGUUAUUAAAAGUCAAAGAGUCUAAAAAAAAAAAAAGUAAAAGAUCAAACUAGCAAUAUAUUUCUGUGAAAUAUAUUAUUGCAUAUUAUUGCACCUCUUAAAAAAGAAGUAAAAGAUCCAAUGAAAAAAUGUGUUCUCUUUUUGACAAACACAUUGGUUGUAGGAAGAGAGAGAAAAUGAUGAUUUCUAGGUGAAUGGGAAAUGACUUUAAAGGACAUGUAUUAUAUCAUUAUUGAAGAACAAUCUAAAUUUCCUUUGAAUUAAUUUGAUUUACAUGAUUGUGAAUUAAUUUGUAUUAGGAGAAGUGAAUCAAUCUAAAUUUAAUCAUUUGUAUUAUAUCAUUACGGGGGAGUAACUAGUGGUUUAAUGACAAUCUAAAUUUCCUUUGAACAACCCCACAAACAACUUGAACCUUUUUUUUUUUUUUUUUUUGUCAAUUAACAACUUGAAAAUUUUAUUUCUUAAAAUACUCACAUUGAAAUAAUUAUUUUAUCCACGUUGGGUUUUGAUAAGGUAUAUAAUACAAUGAUAAGGUAAUUAUUUUAUUCAUAUUAAAUAAAAUAUUACCUCAAGAAAGAAAAAAAAGUUCAUGAUUGGUAAAUAUGUAUGUUUGGAUUGAUGAAAAUGCAAGUAGUAAAAUCUAAAGAUUCUCUACCCUAUGGUAUAAGUUACUCUAUAAGGCAAACUAUACUUCUCUCAAAAAAAUAAAAAAGGCAAACUAUACUAGCGAUAAAUUUACGUUAAAAUGACCCUCUUUUAAUUCAUCAUAUAUAGGAAAAUGAAUUGAAUUUUUUUUUCGCGGACAACGGUGGUAUUUUUGUUAGUUUGUUUUAAUUCAAGUUUAGUUUAGUGAUAAUCACAAUCAGUGGUUAAUCACAUUUUGUUUUAGUUUGUUAUGAAGUUUGUUACAAGUUUGUUAGAGGUUAGUAUAUAAGAUCUAGAGUUUGUUACAUUGCUUGUGCUUCAAGCAACUUAGCUAGAUAUUGUAUAUAAGCUACCUCCUUUGUACAUUUUCGUAUGUAGAAUCAAUAAAGAUCAAUUACAAUUUCAUCAUAAUUUUUCUUCUCUCUCAAUUCUCUCUCUAAUUCACAAAACCUUAGAAUAAGAAACUACUUCUGAAACUGCUUCUGAACUAGCUUCUGAACAAGCUUCCGCUUCUGGUUUUUCUGCGCUAUCAAAUUGGCAUCAAGAGCCUUUGGUUUCAUUCUAAGGGGUAAUCAAGAUCUUCAAUCACGCAAUUUGUAGGAAGAAACGCUGAAGGAAACACCAUGAAUGGUAGCAGCAGUUUCAACACACAUCUUCCAAUUCUUGAAGCACGCAAUUGGGAAAGAUGGAGUGCAGUGAUGAAGAAUCUGUUUGGAGCACAAGAUUUGCUUGAAAUUGUGCAGAAUAGUGUAGGUGAAUUAGCUGCGAAUGCCACUGAAGUGCAAAGGAACGCACACAAGGAAUUGAAGAAGAAAGAUUGCAAGGCUCUGUUCUUGAUUCAACAAAGUCUUGAUGAAGGAAACUUUGAAAGAAUCUCAAAAUCACUAAGUUCAAAGGAAGCAUGGGACAUUCUUUCAAAGUACCAUGAAGGUGAUGAUAAAGUGAAGUUGAUUAAGCUUCAAUCACUGAGAAGGAAAUUUGAGCUGAUGCAAAUGGAAGAUGAUCAGAAGAUUUCUGAGUACAUCUCUAAACUCAUCAAUCUUGUGAAUCAGAUGAAGGCUUGUAGUGAAGCAAUCACUGAUCAACAGAUAGUUGAAAAGAUUAUGAGGACCCUAUCUUCAAGGUUUGAUUUCAUUGUGGUGGCAAUUCAGGAAUCAAAAGAUGUUAAGACAUUGAAGAUUGAGGAGCCGCAGAGUUCAUUAGAAGCUCAUGAAUUGAUGGUUUCAGAAAGAAGCAAUGAAAGAUCAAUUCGACAAGCCCUGCAAGUUCAAACUAUCAAGAAGGAUGAUUAUGAUAGGAAGAACUUCAAGAAAGGGAAGAAAAACUCUAAGGGAAGAAACUGGUCUAAAGGCAAGAACAAUGGAUCUGAUAAAGGUGAAUCUUCAAAGGAAGGAAAUUCUAAUCAAAAGAAGAAAGUUGAUAAGAAGAAGAUUCAGUGUUUCAAAUGUGAGAAAUUUGGACACUAUGCCUCUGAAUGUUGGUCUGGUAAAGGAAAGCAAUCAAAUAAUGAUGAAGAGGAAGCCAAAAUUGCACAAGAUGAUUCAGAUUCUGAGUCAUUAUUCAUGAUGGUUACAACAAUUAGUAAUGAGAGCUGCAAUUCAGAAAGUUGGUUCUUAGAUACUGGUUAAUCUAAUCAUAUGACUGGAACCAAGACAUGGUUAAGAGAAGUGGAUUUUGGAAGAAACACAAAGGUGAAACUUGCAGAUCAUAGAGUAUUAGUUGCAGAAGGAAUGGGGAAUAUUGCUAUUGAAGGAAAGAAUGGGAAAGUGGCAAUAAUUGAAUAAGUUCUCUAUGUUCCUGGAAUGCAGUGCAAUUUGCUGAGUGUAGGUCAAUUCAUUCAGAAAGGAUACUCAGUUACUAUGAAGGACAACACCUUUAAGUUGUUUGAUAAUCAUCAAAGGUUAGUUUUGAAAACUCCUCUUGCAAAGAAUAUAACCUUUCAGACCAAUAUGAAAGCUGUAGAAUUGAACUGUUUAUCUGCUAUGGUAAAAGAUGAAGAUAGCUGGUUAUGGCACUAUAGAUUUGGUCAUCUCAAUUUUAGAGGUCUUAAUCAAUUGGUUGAUAAAGAAAUGAUUCUGGGAGUGCCUAAAAUUGAGAUACCUAACACAGUUUGUGAUACUUGCUUGUUGGGAAAGCAACCUAGAAGUGCAUUCAGUUCAAGUUCAGCAAGUAGAUCAAAGGAGCUGCUUAAUGUUGUAUAUUCAGAUGUGUGUGGUCCUUUAGAGGUUCCUUCAUUAGGAGGAAACAAAUAUUUCAUCAGUUUUGUUGAUGAGUUUAGCAGAAAACUCUGGUUAUAUUUGAUUAAGGCCAAAAGUGAAGCAUUUGAUAUGUUCUAGAAGUUUAAAAUCUUAGUUGAAAAACAAAGUGGUAAAUCCAUUAAGAUUUUAAGAACUGAUGGUGGUGGUGAGUAUACCUCAAAGGUGUUUGAGAAGUUUUGUGAAGACAAUGGCAUUGUGCAUGAAGUCACUGCUCCUUAUACUCCACAACACAAUGGUUUGGCUGAAAGAAGGAAUAGUAGCCUGCUUGACAUGACCAGAAGUAUGCUAAAGAUGAAGAAGAUGCCUAAUACAUUUUGGGGAGAAGCAGUAAGAACUGCAGCAUACAUCUUAAACAGAUGCCCCACUAAGAAACUUAAUCAAAUUCCUGAAGAAAUUUGGUUAGGAUGCAAGCAGUCAGCAAAACACUUGAGAAUUUUUGGUUCAUUGUGCUAUAUGCAUAUCCCUGAUGCAAAGAGAAGGAAGUUGGGGGACAAGAGUGAGCCUAUGAUACUGGUUGGCUAUCAUGAAACAGGUGCAUACAGAUUGUAUCAUCCUCUAAAUCACUCUAUAGUGAUUAGGCUACCUGACCCAAAAAAAAAUUCUACAAGCCACUUUUCUCACGUUGUUUUCGCUAUUUUCUUAUAUCUUGACCCUUACUUAUUGAUGUUGUUGAAACCAAGUUGGUCCACUAAUAACAAUAUCAUUUUAUGUUUUGAUGAUUAAAAAAAAUAUCUAAAUGGUUUUUCAAUUCGCAUUUAACUUAAUUUCUUAUUACUUUGAAAUCUUUCAACAAACUAUAUUCAUUUUAAAUUUUGCAAAUUUAUUUAUGUUAGUUCUAACAUUUAUCCCGCCAUUGCACGGGUCAUGAGCUAGUAAGUGUUAUUGGUACAUGGAGCCUUAAUCUUCUUGCACAAAUACCCACUUAAAAGUUUCAAUUGAAUGGGGUGGGGUAGCUCAACUGGUUUGAGUUAAGGGAAUUUUUUCUAGAGGUACUGAGUUUGACACGGACAAAGGAGAAAAGAGAAAAACUAAUUUCUAACAUACAUUAAAAAAAAAAAAAUAUCUUCUUAAAGCACCAACCCAAUUCAUAUUUUUUAUUUAUGUACUAAAAUGAUAGAUCAGUAUAUUUUUUAUUCAGUACAAAUUUGAAUAUCUGUUUAAACUGUACAUUUUUUAUUGGGUUAAAUAUGUUUUUGGUCCCUAUAAAAUUGGAAACUUCUAAGUUUAGUCCUUACUUAAUUUUAAUAACAUUUUUAGUCCCUACAAAAAUAAAAUUACAUGUAAUUUUAGUCCUUCUAAAAACUAAAUUUGUUUAAUUAUUCUUGAAUUCUUAAAUUUUUGAACGAUUUUUUGGAGACAUGUUUAGAACAUUAUAAAAUGUUCAUUUACUAAAAAAUAUAAUUUUUUAACAGGAGAAGAAUUAAAUAUGAAUUUUUUAAACGACAAAAAUUCAAGAAAAGAGUAGUAAAAAUCUGAACGUAGAAAUCAAAUUUUGAGUUAAUAUUUUGUAGAGGGACUUUCCGUAAUGUUCUUAAUAGGUGUACAAAAGAUUGUUUAAAAAUUCAAGAAUUUAAGCAUAAUUAAACAAAUUUGGAUUAAGAAUGGACUAAAACUAAAUGCAAAAUGAUUUUUUAGGGAUUAAAAAAGCUAUUAAAAUUAAGUAAGGAUUAAAUUUAAAAGGCUCCAAUUUUAUAAGGAUAUAAAACAUAUUUAACCCUUUUUAUUUGAUGUCAAAAGGAAAAGUUCAAUCAAUAAAUUUGUUUUUGUUGUAAAAUUUUGGAUAGUCGGGCAUGAGUGAUAUGCAAAACUAAAACAAAAAAAAAUACAACAAAUGUUACAUGAAGGAUUUUGAUUGAUGAAACAAAACUACCUUGACAAAAAAAAAAGAAUUAAAAGAAAGAAAUUGAAUAAGUUAUUAAGAUUAAUAAAAUUUUCUUGAAACAUCACCGAAGGGUUGUCUUUGAAUAAAGAUUUUAGGAAAUUGUAUAUUUUUGUAUAUAGAAGUUAUAGUUUUUAAAUGAUUGUAUAUUUACUAGAUAAAUGCUUCCUUAUCUCCAAUCCCCAUUACAACUCUGACUAAGUCUUAGGCUUUGUUUGGAUUGAUGGCAUGUGGUGGAAUGGAAUGGGAUGGAGUGGUAUAUAAUAGAGUUCCAUUGUUUGGAUAUUUAAAAAAUGAGUGGAAUGGAGUGGUAUAUGAUGGAAUCCAUUCCAUCCCAUUCCAUCAUCUUCCUUUAUUUUCAUUCCUCCCAAUUUGGGGUGUAUAGAAUGGAAUGAGGUCUAUUAAUUUGACAAUUACCUUUUUAACCUAGUUUUUUUUUUUAUUUCCAAUUGGUAGCCACGAAUUUCCGAUUGAACCCAGUUUUUUAUUUAAUUACACACGUUACCUCUAUACCCAACAACAUCAAACUCUACAACACUGUUCUACAUAGCACUAGACAGUCCAAUACAUCAAAAUCCUUUCUACAAAGCCAAACUACUCAUGAAAAUCAAUGAAAGUUCAUUAUAAUUAAAUAAAAAAAAUGUAAAAAAUGCAACGAAUGGAGAUGGUGGGGGUAACGUGAUGGACAAAUUUUUCAAACAAAAUUAAAACUUUUUUGCUACUAUUAUUUUUGUUACUAUUUUAUUAUAACUAUACAAUUCUAUAUAUGAUAGUAUUUUUAAAUAAGGGUAAAAAUGAAAUAAACAAGUUUGUUCCGUUCCGUCGUAAAAUGAGUUCUAUAAAAUACCCAAACAAUGGAAUGGAAACUCUAUCCCGCUCCGUUCCAUUCCAUCCCGCUCCAUUCCAUUCGUUUUAAAAUAUCCAAACAUAGCCUAGUGUUCCAUGCCUGAUAGUAGCUGGUUAUAUGUAAAUUCUAUUUUCUUAUAUUGAUAUUUCAAUUCCGUUCUUAAUUUUUUUUUUUUUUUUUUUUUUUUUUUUUUUUUUUUAUGCGAAAUACAAAAAUGAUAUUUGACUUAGAAAGUUGUAGACAUAGGCUUUCUCCGUAAGAGAGAGAUAUGGGUAGGAGCAUUUGUAGAUGUUAGUUACCAGGUAUUAGUCUCUGUUUGCAAUCAUACACAUUGUAUGAUCUUAAUGUCGUUACUAAAAAUAAUGAAUCUCAUAUCGUUUGUCAGAUAUGGAAACAUGCGAUCAAUGAAGUAAAUUAAACGAUUAAUUAAUGAAUCCCAACAAUAUUAUCUCUUUGUUCUUGUUUCAUUUUUUUUUAAGAAGUUAAACUAACCCCUUUCAAUUGACACCAGAGAUAAUUGAACCUGAGACCUUAAGAAGGAGCACUCUCAGGUUACAAGUCAAUACGACUAGGCCAACCUAAGUGGGUUUUUCUUAUUUCAUUAUUUAAUUGCAAAGACAAAUAUAUGUACAAAUAAUCCAUCGUUAUGUACUAAAAACAAUAUUCGUAUUUCAAAAAUAUUGCACGAAUUCCUAUGGAUACGGUAACCAUAAAUAUUUAUUUUGGGAAAUGAUAGGUGCAGUGACAAAAUUUAUCAAAAAAAUUUUAAGACAGUGUAUUUGCUAACACCUUUUCUUAAUUACACAACAUUACCUCCCUUAAUUUUCGUCAAAUAACAAAUUUAAUUGAUUGAGACAUUUUCUUAAUAUAUUUUUGAUAAAAACUCUAGAUAAAUAGAAAUGCUCAUUUAUUUUUUUAUACAGCUAUAAAAGCAGCUGAUCACUAAGUAACUAUUUUUUUUAUCUCAAUCUGUUUGCAAUAUUUCAAAAAUUAUUAGAUAAUUUUAUAAAUUAUUACCCCAAAAAUAAAAUUACCAUGUGUGUCACAUGGGAUAAAGAUCUAGUUUACCCUAAAUUUAAAGUAGUUGGAUUAAACCUUCAAAAAAUUGUAUUAAAGUGUUUGCAACUACUUUUAUAUCGACUAAAAUCCUACAAAUAUAAAUUAAAGUGUUUGCAAAUUGAAUUGUUUUUCAUAUCUUUUAAAGCUCAACAAGACAUCUAAUGUAUUUAUUUUGACAUGCAUAAAUUAAAAAGGCUUUGAAGUAAGGUAAAAUUUAUUGAUAUACCUAACUAUUCUAUUAAAGUUAUUUUUAAAAGGUGUGAUACCUCCAAAAUUAUGAGAGAAGAGGACAAUGAAAAAAAAAAAUCUUUACUACCUUAAAACUAUCUUAGAGUAACACACCAUAACUACAAGGUUCAUGAGAUUAGAGAAAUUAAAUUAAAUUAUAUCAUAGAGUGCCAACAUAAUAACCAAACGACAACUCAUGAAAUAUUCUAUCAUAUUUUAAGUUGUUUUCUUUGACAUUAUAACCCAUUCUCCUUUGUAGUAUGUUUUUGCACUCUCCAUGGUUUGAAACUCAUAGAAUCAUGCAUGUGCUUCUACCAAUUCACAUCUUUUAUCAAUGCACUUAAAAACAUAUAACAAGUCCCUAUACUUUGGACAAUAAUCAUCGGUUUCACAUUCUUCAUAAACUAUAAUGAAAAAACGAUAAUAAAAUAAUGUUACUAAAUAUGUUAAAAGAUUGUGCACAAACUAUAAAGUAAAGAAGGAAAUUUUGAAAAGAAUGAAAAAAAUGACUUACUGUCACUCAGUUGUGUUCUGAUGAGAAAUACUAUGGAAAUGAAUAGAAUCAUAGCAUAAACAAACUUUAGAAGUUGAAUCAUAUUUUUUCUUGUUUGCAUGUAAAAAAUUCGAAUAUGAUUUGUUCUAUUUAUAAUGUUCAUGCUCUCUUAAAAAUGAUUUUUAUAGUUUUGGCACUUAUGAAGUUGUAAAAACCCUUCAUAAAAUUAUAAUCAUCAUUAAUUAUCUCUUAAAUAUAUCAAAGUGUUGUAAACAUAAAGAGGUCAAAUGAAAAACUUACUAAUAAUAAAGAUUUAUUCCUUUUGACUAUAAUAUUCAUAUGUAAUUGAGCUUAAGUGGUUAAUGAACUUCACCAAAGAACGAAUCGUUCCGGAGAACCCGAGUUUGUUUCUGAUUUUAUCCAAAUGCAUUUUGGUAUUAUGCCUACCCAACUUGAAAUAGAUUGACGGAAACCAUUGAUGAUGAGGCAUUCUCUAGAUGGAUUUCAUAGUUCUCACCUUGAGAACAAAUUGUAUAGUCAGAGGUCUUUUUGACUUUGGAAUAAGUUCAAAUAGAACUCCUUCACAACUCCCUACAUUUUAAGCUAUAACUAUAAUAAGUCAUUACGAAUCAUGUGUCUUCAUUGUGUUAUGAUAAUGUGAGGAUGGGAGAAUAUUUGUAGAGUUUUAAUUAUGAUAAAUAAUACUGGAAUGAGGAUAUUAUUUCAGUUUUUCAUCAACUUUUUGUGAUGGAAUAUAGGAUAUGCAUUAAUUGCACUAUGACUGCUACACUCAAGCUAUUCGUAUUUCUACCUAUUUAACAUUUGGCUUGAAGUUGAUUAUUUAAAUGAAAAAUGAGUGAAUUUAAUAUCGAAUAUACUGUCACAAUAUAUUCUAUUUUUACUUUCAUUGAUUAGAACUCAACUAUUAUCAAAUGAAAUCAGUGCAGAUAAUUAGACAUUCAAGAUUUUGAGCUGGGAGAUUAGAAUGCAUUGAAGGAAUUGUUUGCCAAACACAUUGGGAAACUUUGAUGAAGGAGCUUGCUUUCACAUAACUCAGGAGAAAAAGACCUGUUCAAACACAGAUUAUCCUUGCAAGUACAAAAAAAAAAAAUGAAAACAAUUGUGUAGAACUAAUGUUAAUGAACCAUUUUUUUUGGACAAACAGAAAAUGUUGAUUCUUAUGUUAAUGAUAGGAUUAGAACCAUGUAAAGAGGAUGCAAGUAUUGGUGGCUCUUCAUUGCUGCUGGUUCCUCUAGUCCCUCAUUUGGCUUUGGGGACCUAUAGAAUAGAGACAAAGAUGAUGCAAGAAAUUGUAUGUAUAUAAAUUUUGAACUUAUCAAAAGGAGAAGGAACAACAACUCAUGAAGGAAAAACAAUCAAAAUUUCUCUUACCAAGCAGAAUAUGAUGUAUUUAGCACCUGAAGAUAGUGUGAAGGAUUCAGCAAUGUGGCAAAUGAAACUGUCGUUCAGCUUUUUUGUCUCUCUUUUUUACUUUAUUUUCUCUUUUUUUACUUUCUCCAACCUUUCUCUCAUGCUGACAGUGGCUUUUGUGGGAUCUUUUACUUUAUUUUCUCUGUUUUUUUUUUUUAAAAACUUUUUUUUAACAUUUCUACCAUUUUCAACUUUACAUGUAAAUAUUACUCCAGCUGCAACUAUUGUUGUUGUCUUUUAGUGCAAUAUAAGAAAUAAGAAAUAUGCCAGUGUCGGCAUGAAAAAAGGAAAAGAUUCCACAAAGUGCAGAGCAUUCAAUUUGCCCCUCUUUCAUUUUCUGAAUAAUCAAUAACCAAUGAAACUUUUUUAUACAUCUUCCUAUAAAAUUUAUUUCAAAGAUAACACAAAAAAUUAUGUUGUAAACUACUAUGUUUUAGUUUUGUUAAUAAGUAUGAUUUUUUUUUUGCUUAUAAUAUGGGACGGAGGGAGUACAUACCUACACCGCUUUGUUAUUCUCACUAUAUGCUUCUCAAUUCAUUCGUCGCCAUCUUCGAUCCAUUAUUGAAAGGAGAAUUAAUACAACUAAUAUUUUUAAUCUAUUAUUGAUGAUCCCAAAUCAUUCGAAUCACAUUGAGUAUUAUUUUAAUUUUUUAACAUGUGUAGUUUAAUUUUUUUAUGAUUAAUUUUGUGCUUAAUGUUUAUUAGUACAAUAUAAUUUUUUUGACCCAUCCGAGAUUUUCUUUCUGAUUCCGCCACUAUUUAUACCCAAGUAAGUGUAUGGUAGAAUCAAUUUAUGUUGUUGAUAAAAUCAUUGGAAAAAAAAUGUGACUGUGUAUUUAAUUUUGUAAUUGCAUGAUUUAUUUUACAUUAUCAUUCAAAUCAAUUAUAUAAUUCAUAUCGAUUUAAAAAAUAAUUUGGUAUUGAAUGUAAACUGCUUUUAAAAAUUAUUCGUAUAUCUAAUAAUUAAUUGAAAUAUGUUCUUAGGGCAGCUUUGUAUGUACACCUUUUUGUACCACUCUGUAAAAUUUCAGUUAAUCAAAUAUAUGGUCUCCGUGACUACGUUUAUUUAGUUGCGUGAUCACUAUUUAUUUGGUUAACUAAGUGGAAAAAUAGUGGUCACGCGCAUUUUAGUUGUGCGACCACAUUUUUUCAGCUUUUAAAUGCUGGAAAAAUAAUGGUCAUUGGUCACGCUGAAAUUUUUCAAAGUGAUAUAAAGAAGUGUACACAUUAAGGGUGUCUACCUACCUAUCUUUAUUCUUCCUCCUGUUUUAUUUUUCGACGUGCCUCUCCUUUGUCCAUUUUAUCGUGUUCCAUCGUGGUAUGCCUUUUUCUUGCGUGAAGAGCACAUCUUAAUAUCUAUAUACUUGAAGGAUCCGAUUGAUUUUUCAUGGCUCCUUUACCACCAGCUCAUGUUGUUGAUAUCAUUGUCAGCAGAGAAGAGGUAGUGCUAUUUCAUGUAGUUAGUUCUUCAAUUCAGCGACAACUUACUGUUGAUGUUAAUGACAGGUGGCGGUGGAAUUUGCACUCUUCAAAUAAUUACAUUGUUUGUAUUGCUUAUAAUUUCAUUCAACAAUCACCAAAUCAACAUAUCCUUGCAGAUGACAACCAUGUAUUUUGGCAUAAAGUUGUUUCUCUGAAAGUCAAUCUUUUUGUGUGCGUCUUCUUCUCAACCGCCUUCCAACAAAUGACAAUUUAUUUAUGAGAGGAGUGAUUCCGGCUACUUAUGGGAGGGUGUGGUAAUUUAGAGGAUAAACAAGAGAAUUGUUGUUUACACAUUUCAUAAGGCUGUGCCACACGAGUCAUUUACGUAAAUGCCCUUCAGCAGUUAACUGCCGAAGUUUUUAGUAAACCGGCGGCAGUUAACUACCGAGGAUUUCCUCGGCAGUUAACUACCGAUGCGAACUGAACAUAACAGAAGCAGAAACUCAAUUUUCUGAGUAUUGAUUCAUUGUUCAAAAAUUCUCCAAACCAUCCAACUUCUCCAAUUUCGAUUUGUCAGCAAAAUCAAAUGCAUCAUCUCCAUUUAAUCACAAGUAAGUAUCUUGACUCAUUUUUAAUCAUAAUGUUAAUUUGGGUAGGUUUUUUUUAUAAAAAAAAUGGUAGUUUUUAUGUGGUUAGGGUUGAUGUAGGAAUUGAAUUUUUUAUGAGUGCAUGUAGUUUAUAAUUGAAUGUAGUUGCUUUAAUUGAUGAUUGAAUGAUGUUAGGGUAUAAUGUGGUUUUCAAUGGUGGCAAAAGAACACAUUUUUAGUAUGUUUGAUAUUUUGCACACAAAGUGUUUGAUAAAAUGUGUCAAUGACAAUUUUAUUGAUUAUUUAGUUAGUUUAGGUAUUGGAUAUGAUUUUGAUUGUAAUUCGAAAAAGUGUAUAUUGAAUUAGGUUGAAUGUGUAUAUUGAAUUAUGUUUAGUUUAGGUUGAAUGUGUAUGACAAUGCAUUUGAUUAUUUACGUUUGAAUGUUAAUGAUAAUGUGUAUGAUAAUGUUUAGGUUCAAUCAAUGUCUUUAUUUUGGUAAAGUGGUUUAAUGUGAAAGUGGUUAUGUUUAGGUUGAAUGUGAAAGUUUAGGUUUUGUUUAGGUUUAGUGUUUUUGAUAAAGUGGUUGAAUGAUAUUAAUUUUAUUAUUUUUUUUGUAGAUAUGGCCGAUCAGGACCCCAUUGAUCCAUCGAAGAUGAUUGGUGGUAGGCGUGCGAUGACUCAGAGCCACCGCAGGAAGAGGCAGAGCAGCCACUUCCCAAAGAGGGGUAGAGGUCGGAGGGGAGAUGGCUCAGGAAGCUCUCAGGCUACACAGCCUGAGGAGUCACAGGUUGUUGACCCGUCACAGCCUGUUGACCAGACUGGGGUGGAGUACCUGAACUAUCAGGAUCAGGUACAGCAUGAUGUGACGGAUGGUGGAUAUGACCAGGAUCAUAUACCACAGCAGCAGGAUGCAGGAGACGAGGAUGACAUUGCAGCAGCUGCUGCACCGGAGGUGUUACCUAUGGAGCCUCCAUUUCCUGGUGGACCGGCUGACUUGUCAUUGCUCCACUCUUAUGCCGAUCAUGUGGCGUUGCCACUCUGGUAUAAUUCAAAUAAUGUAACUGUAUUUUUUUUAAAUAUUUUUUCUUUAUGUUAAAAUAUUUUCUUUAAUUUAAAUGUGUAUUUGUUUAAUUAUUAUAUCCAGUUUUAUAUGUGUUUUUUUUAAUUAUAUUUUGUAUGUUUAAUUGUUUUCUUUAAAUGUGUGUUUGUUUAAUUAUUAUAUCCACUUUUAUAUGUGUAUUUUUUAAUUCUAUUUUGUAUGUUUAAUUCUUUUCUUUAAAUGUGUGUUUGUUUAAUUAUUAUAUACAUUGUUUUAUGUUUAUUUUUUUAAUUCUAUUUUUUAUGUUUAAUUGUUCUCUUUAUAUGUGUUUUUGUUUAAACCAUAUUUAUUUUUCUAUUAUUUCAGGUUCGUAAGCUCCACGUGCUUAAACCGAUUAAUCAUGGGGCCAAGAUUCUCACUCUCGGACGCCCUAACGGGAAUGAGAAUUGGUUUUGGGAUCCGCUUAAGCAGAGCGGGCUACAUGAUUUGGUUUACUUGGGGUACUCCACCGUGCCUCAUCCGGAGACCAGCACCUUUCACAUGCCCAUGGGGGAGAUGACUGUGACAUUGGAUGAUGUCGCAUGUCUCACGCAUCUUCCUAUUGAGGGGCGGAUGUUGGAUCAUGGGAAGAAGAUGCCCAAGCAUGAGGGAGCGGCACUGCUGAUGAGGUAUCUGGGUGUGUCCCAGCAUGAGGCUGAAAAGAUCUGCAACCAGGAGUACGGUGGGUACAUUAGCUACCCGAGGCUGAGGGACUUCUAUACCACGUACCUUGGUAAGGCCAACUUAUUGGCGGGUACGGAGGAUCCUGAGGAGCUUGAGGAGCUGGCGAGGGUUAGGACAUACUGCGUCCGGUGUUACCUUCUGUACUUGGUCGGAUGCUUGUUGUUUGGCGAUAGAAGCAACAAGCGCAUCGAGCUGAUAUAUUUGACGACCAUGGAGGACGGCUACGCAGGGAUGCAUAAUUAUUCCUGGGGAGGUAUGACCCUCGCCUACCUAUACGGCGAGUUGGCUGAUGCAUGUAGGCCUGGACACAGAGCUCUUGGGGGGAGCGUGACACUGCUCACUGUAAGAAAACUUAAAUUUUAUAUUUAUGUUAACUUUAUUUUUUUGUUAACUUUUAUUUUUUUGUUAUAUUUUUCCGUGCGUAAUGAUUUAUAAAUGUUAUUUGUUUGGUUUGUGCAAGCAUGGUUUUUGGUGCAUUUUCCAGGGUUUUACAGUGUUGAUCCCAACACUGACUACGUGGAAAACUAUCCAGUUGCAGCGAGGUGGAAGCUCCAGAAGGGUCAUGGGGGGAGAUCACGUAUCGGUCACUGCUUGAUCGUAUACAAUUAGAUGAUGUAUGUUGGAGGCCGUACGAGGAGCACAGAGAGAUCCAGGACUUCGAGGAGGUUUUCUGGUAUUAUGGGUGGAUUAUGUGUGGUGUCCGUAGGGUGUACCGUCACUUGCCCGAGAGGGUUUUGAGGCAGUACGGAUACGUGCAGACCAUCCCCAGACAUCCGACUGCUGUUAGGGACCUCCCACCGUCUUCCAUUAUGCAGGUGUUCGUUGACUUCCGCACUCACACGAUUAAGGCGGACGAUCGGGGUGAGCAGGCAGGAGAGGAUACAUGGCGGGUGGCGGAUGGCUAUGUCAUAUGGUACACUAGGGUGUCUCACCCUCAGAUCUUGCCACCUAUUCCAGGAGAUCUUCCGAGGCCUGCAAAUAAAGAGCAGAUCAUUGCAGACCAGUGGGAGCGGUAUGAGGCGAGAAGCUCGCCUGACACCUAUGACAUGGUUAGUGGCGCUGUUGCCUAUGCUGAUGCGCAGUUAGGCCAGGAGGAGGUCAUGAGCAUGACCCCUCAGCAGUGGUUUGAGGCCAUGACCCAUAUGAGGGAGCAGAUCGCGCCGAUUUUGACCAGGAGGAGAGCCCAGAGGCCGAGGAGGAGGCACUAUCUGCAGGAUCAGGACCAGUAGUACUAUUUUCCUUUUUUAGGACUUAGUUUUUAGUUUUAGUCUUUUGAUGACAUUGAGUUAUGUAUAUUUGUAUAUUUGUAUAUUUAUAUUUUUAUGACAUUAUUUUUAAUUUCAUGGGCUCGUUUUACUUUGUUUAAUGUACAAAAAUGUUGGUUUAAUUAAAUUGUGCAUUUGCACCAAUAUUUUUUUGUUAUUUGAACCGUUAUGAUGAAUUUUAACCGUUUGUGUAAAAAUCCGGCUUUCAAAAUAAUUUAGAAUGAUAUUGAAAUGCUUUUUAGAAUUAUGAAGAUUUCCUCGGCAUGAAAAUUAAAGUUUGUUCUUGUAACUUCAUGUAUUGAUAAUAAGCAAUUUUCAAUGAGACGUGAUCGUUACCUUUUUUCUAGAGUGUAGUAGUAGUAUUUUAUUACUAAUGACAAAGUUUUAGUUGUCUAGUCAAACCUGAACACUACUAUAUAAUAUAAGUGUGCCGUUGAUUUGCCUCCAAUUCGUGAAAGAAGAUUUGGCGAAGAUUGGAGAGAAAUUGAGAAUUUUGUAAAGUUUUGGAUGUUCAGUUUUCCUCGGCAGUUAACUAUCGAGGUUUUCUUCGGCAGUUAACUGCCGAAAUUUUGAAAAAUCCGGCUGCAGUUAACUGCCGAGGGAAACCUCGGGAGUUAACUGCCGAGGAUCUUAUGCGCUACAAAAUCUGGCAGAAUCUCCUCUCAUCCAUUAUUGAUCUUAUCUUCCAAAUAAUUUCUUCAAAUUUCUCUCAAAAUCUCUCUAAAAAACACAACCAAAUCCAACCAACUUUAUUCAACAAAAUCACAAGUAAGUAAUUAUAAUGCUAUUAACUUACAUUUUAGUUGUUAUAAAUGUUAUUAUUUUUUAGUUUUUGAGUACAUUUAUUAUUUUUUAGUAGAUUUACAUGUUAUAAUUAAUUUUUAGGGUAUAUGUUAGUUGAUUAAUGUUGUUAAAAUAUUUGCAUGAUGUUUAUGUUAUAUGAUUAAUUUUUUUAUUUUAGUAAGAGUAUAUGAUUUAUAAUUUUAGGAUUAUUUUUAUGAAUUUUAGAGUCUAUGUAUAAUGUGCACAUCAAGUGUUCGAUGAAAUGUUUGAAUGAGUUUUUGAUUGAUUGUUUUUAGUUUCUUAUUGUGUAGAUUUAAAACAAUGGCCAGGUGGAUCGACGUUCAUGCGCAAUUCAACGGCGGAGAACCUCAGAGGUUGAAGGUUCGGUGCCUUGGUGUAACGUUAAGAGGUCUCAAGGAUAAACUGACUGAAUUCAACCAAGGAGUCAACCCCAAAGAUACAAGGAUGGUGGAACACGUUUGGUAUAAACGUCCAACGCUCGACGAGGGGAGAGUAUCAUUCACUUGGGUGGAAUUAACGAAUGACGAAAACGUGACGACCAUGUUUUGGGAGCACAGCAUGUUCCAGUGGAUCGAUAUGCGGGUGAAGUUGGUUAGAUCAACUGAAGAUAUCAUCAAAAGUUUGAUUCCGCCGGAAGAUCGUCAUUAGUUAGGGUAAGGUGCAUUCCAACUACAACAAUUGUCUUCCUUUGAAUGAGAUCAAUUCAAACCUGCCAAACAACAGGACUCGAGCAUUUCGCUCGGCAUUCAUUUUUUUCCUUUGAAAAGAUUAAAUUCUUGUUAGGCUGAUUUAGAUGAAGGUAUUAAGUGUCAAGGAAUGAACCUCAUUUCGUUGGCACUUGAAUACCAUCAUCUAAAGCACGCCUAACAAAAAUUUAUUCUUUUCAAAGGAAAACAUGAAUGCCGGGUGAAAUGCUUGAGUCCUGUUGUUUUGCAGGUUUGAAUUUAUCCCAUUCAAAGGUAACAUAAUUGUUGGAGUUGGAAUGCACAUUCCAACUGCAACAAUUGUCUUACCCUGGAUGGGGCAAUUCAAACUUGCUAAUCGGCAGGACUCCAGUAUUCGAUGAGCAUCUUGAACAAUGGUAUUCAAGUGUCAAGGAAUGCACCUCAUUCUGUUGACACUUGAAUACCAGCGUUCAAGAUGCUAAUCGAAUACUGGUGUCAUGCUGCUUGGCAAGUUUGAAUUUGCCCCAUUCAGUGGUAAGAUGAUUGUUGCAGUUGGAAGGUAAAUUUCGGAAUGUAAUGUAAUAUGUAAUACAAUGUAAUGUGAUAACAUAUAUUUUGUUUUGAAUGGAACAAUAAUUAUCUUAUUUUGUUUUCAAAUUUAUUUAUUCCAAAUGCAAUUUUAUUAUAAGCACCAUAAUGUCAAACAAAAUGUGCGCGACACAAAAAUUAAACAUAAAAAAAUCCAAAACAAUUAGGCAUUAAAAGUCAUUACAUUUAUUCUUCCUCGUCACACAAAUCAAUUGGCUUGUCCGCUACAGUCCCUGCAGUACCUUGUUUUGGUCGAGGACCGAAAUAACAUGUCCUCUCGCUCCUCCUCAACCUCGAGUGAUUGUACACUGGCACCUUCGAACCCUUCUUUUUUUCAGAACCAUUGCAAACAAUUCCAUGCCACGUCAUAGGUGAUUUUUCUUUUUUCUUCUCAUCAUCGUGAACGUUACCCUGAUUCUGAUUCUGAGAUAUAUCUACAUUAAAAAAAAAAAUGGCGAUCAAUUCAACCUAUACUAACCUAAACUAUCCUAACAAUUCUAACCAUUCUAACCUAAACUAUCCUAACAUAUCAUAAAAUCAACAAAUCAAUAUAAUCGAAAUUUAACAAAAAAUAACAUACAAUUCGACCACAAAGCAACAAUACAAUAGAAUUCAAAAAACUUACUUGUUUUUGUUAUUAAAAUUGGCUUGUAAUGGCUUCAAAUGACUCAAAAUCGCACCUUGGAUAAUUAAAACGCAAACUUGGAGUUUUGGAAACUCCUAUGCAGUUCUGUUCUUAUAACAUUUUCCUCGGUAGUUAAAUGUCGAGGUUUUCCUCGGCAGUUAACUGCCGCCGACUUCCUAAAAACUUCGGCAGUUAACUGCCGAGGAGCAUUUGCGUAAUUUACUUGUGUGGCAUAGCCAAACUAAAUGUGAGAAAAGCAAUUCUCGAUAAACAAUGCCUAUGUUGUCAAAAAUAUCGGAUUAAAGCAAUGAGAGAAUACCAAAUCAGCUCAACCAUGCAAAAUCAACUCAUUUUGGACUUGAAAUACACAACAUGACAUUACAAUUCAAGAAUAAAAAAAAAGAAGUCUUUGCUUUGGUAGAGUAACAACAACAAACUAUUAAAACUUCAAACAAAGAAAAUAAAUAUUGUAAAAGAAAUAAAUGAGGAUAAUCAGAUAGUUUUUUUUUUUUUGGUUACGGAUAAUCAUAUAGUUAACUCAUCCAUAAAACAAAAUACUAGUAUUCAUACAAUUUAAAAAUUAGUUAAUUUCUAUAGUUCAAGAAAUAGAAUCUUAAAAAAUGACAAUGUUUUAUUAAAAGACAGAGACACAUGGUCAUAUGACCUGCCCCAUGAAGAAAAACAUGGACCUAUGCCUUACUUUGACAAUGUUUUAUUCUGUCGGCCACGUGAACGUUUGCUCACAAUUAUUGACCACCUACUUUUCUGACUUUCUACUUUCAUUGCAUUUAUUUUCAAAGGUCUCCAGCUUGGUUCAGCACUCAUUCUAUCUAAACUAAUUUCUCAUCUUCUUAUCUUUUCAACUCUUUAAUUUGUUUUCACAAAAACAAUGGCUGACGCUUUGCUUGGAUUUGUUUUUGAAAACUUGACGUCUCUCCUUCAAAAUGAAUUUUCUACCAUUUCUGGAAUCAAAUCAAAGGUUCAAAAGCUAUCAGACAACUUAGUUCACAUCAAGGCUGUUCUUGAAGAUGCUGAGAAGAAACAAUUCAAAGAACUCUCUAUUAAGCUAUGGUUACAAGACCUCAAAGAUGCUGUUUAUGUGCUCGAUGAUAUCCUUGAUGAGUACUCGAUCGAGUCUUUUCGACUGAGAGGAUUUACCUCUUUCAAACUAAAGAACAUCAUGUUUCGCCAUGAGAUUGGUAACAGGUUCAAAGAGAUUACAAGGAGGUUAGAUGAUAUUGCUGAAAGUAAGAACAAGUUUUCUCUACAGAUGGGUGGAACUCUUAGGGAAAUCCCAGAUCAAGUAGCUGAAGGGCGCCAAACCAGCUCCACCCCUCUUGAAUCAAAAGCGCUGGGAAGAGACAAUGAUAAAGAAAAGAUUGUCGAGUUUCUUCUCACCCAUGCGAAGGACUCUGACUUCAUUUCUGUCUAUCCCAUUGUUGGUUUAGGUGGUAUUGGAAAAACAACUCUUGUUCAAUUGAUCUACAAUGAUGUUAGGGUGAGUCGCAAUUUUGAUAAAAAAUUUUGGGUUUGUGUUUCUGAGACUUUCUCGGUCAAGAGGAUUUUGUGUUGUAUUAUAGAAUCUAUUACAUUAGAGAAGUGUCCUGACUUUGAGUUAGAUGUCUUGGAAAGAAAGCUGCAAGGAUUGUUGCAAGGGAAAAUAUAUUUGCUGAUUUUGGAUGAUGUGUGGAAUCAAAAUGAACAAUUGGAAUCUGGGUUAACACAAGAUAGAUGGGAUCGUUUAAAAUCUGUUUUGUCGUGUGGAUCAAAAGGUAGUUCCAUUUUAUUGUCCACCCGUGAUGAGGUUGUUGCAACUAUCAUGGGAACAUGGGAAACUCACCGUUUGUCUGGUCUCUCUGAUAGUGACUGUUGGUUGUUGUUCAAACAACAUGCAUUUAGACGUUACAAAGAGCAUACAAAGUUUGUGGAAAUAGGAAAGGAGAUAGCAAAGAAAUGUAAUGGAUUGCCACUUGCAGCAAAAGCAUUGGGGGGUUUGAUGAGCUCAAGGAAUGAAGAAAAUGAAUGGCUUGAUAUUAAAGACAGUGAGCUUUGGGCUUUACCACAAGAAAAUUCUAUUUUGCCUGCUUUGAGGCUGAGUUACUUUUAUUUAUCACCAACCCUAAAGCAAUGUUUCUCUUUUUGUGCUAUAUUUCCCAAGGAUAGAGAAAUCCUAAAAGAAGAAUUGAUUCGACUUUGGAUGGCUAAUGGAUUUAUUUCAUCUAUGGGUAAUUUGGACGUUGAAGAUGUUGGAAACAUGGUUUGGAAGGAAUUGUACCAAAAAUCAUUCUUCCAAGAUUGCAAGAUGGAUGAAUAUUCUGGAAACAUUUCUUUUAAAAUGCAUGAUCUUGUCCAUGAUCUCGCUCAAUCAGUAACGGGGAAAGAAUGUGUGUAUUUGGAGAAUGCAAACAUGACUAAUUUGACAAAAAACACACACCACAUAAGUUUUCACUCUGAAAAAUUGUUAUCAUUCGAUGAGGGUGCCUUCAAAAAAGUUGAAUCCUUACGAACAUUGUUUGACUUGGAGAAUUAUAUUGCAAAAAAACAUGAUCACUUCCCAUUAAACAGCUCUCUUCGAGUUUUAAGCACAUCCUUUCUACAGGUCCCAGUAUGGAGUUUAAUUCAUUUAAGGUAUUUGGAAAUUCAUUCUCUUGGCAUAAAAAAGUUGCCUGACUCAAUUUACAACUUACAAAAACUGGAAAUCUUGAAAAUAAAACACUGUAAUAAACUUAGUUGCCUUCCGAAACGCUUGGCUUGUUUACAAAAUCUUAGACAUAUAGUCAUUGAAGAAUGUCGAUCUUUGUCUCGAAUGUUUCCUAACAUUGGAAAAUUAACUUGUCUAAGAACAUUAAGUGUGUACAUUGUUAGUUUAGAGAAAGGGAAUAGCUUGACAGAGUUACGUGAUCUAAACCUCGGUGGAAAACUGAGUAUCAAAGGAUUAAACAAUGUUGGCAGUUUAUUUGAAGCUGAAGCGGCUAAUUUGAUGGGUAAAAAAGACCUUCAUGAAUUAUACUUGUCAUGGAAAGACAAACAAGGAAUUCCAAAGACCCCUGUUGUUAGUGCUGAGCAAGUACUCGAAGAGCUUCAACCUCACUCAAAUCUCAAAUGCUUGACAAUAAAUUACUAUGAAGGAUUAUCAUUACCAAGUUGGAUAAUUAUUCUUAGUAAUUUAGUUUCUCUUGUACUUCUCCAUUGCAAGAAAAUUGUGCGGCUUCCGUUACUUGGUAAACUACCAUCUCUAAAAAAACUGAGAUUAUAUGGUAUCAAUAAUCUGAAAUACUUGGAUGAUGAUGAAUCUGAGGAUGGUAUGGAGGUGAGGGUUUUCCCCUCUCUGGAGAUACUCGAAUUAUCUUGUCUACGAAACAUAGUGGGGUUAUUGAAAGUGGAAAGAGGGGAGAUGUUUCCUUCUCUUUCUAAAUUGGUAAUCGAUUGUUGCCCUAAACUUGGACUGCCAUGUCUUCCAUCUCUUAAAGACCUCUAUGUUUACCCUUAUUUGCCUCAUAUUCCAAAAAUAGAGUUAUAAGAAGCAGAGACGUUUACCCUUAUCUGCCUCAUUAGCCAUCACAAAAAUCAAUUUUACUGGUAGGAUCUCUAUUUACCCUUCUUAUGUUUGCAUUUCAACUGCUCAAAAAUCUUUAUUUUUAUUCUCGUUGUUGACUUCUUUGGAACGCAUCCCGCAGAAAGAGUACAUGAAAGAUAUUUUACUACUCAACCAACCUAAGGACAAUUGUUCUAAUUCAGGUAAUUUUCUUCAUCAUAAUUUUAUUUUUUUAAUUUUAUUUUUUGAACUUUUUUUAAAUUUUGCUGAUUUUGUGGAGAUUGAACUGAAUGGUUAGGAUUUCCUUUGACACACAAGGGUGGGGUCGACAAAUAAAGGGAUUAAUAGGUUCCUAAUGAUGAAGAUGACAUCGUUCGGAGUGGAGGAUGUGACAAUGAGUCCGGUGGUGGUAGAGGUUUUCGCUUUUGAUCAUUGGGGCGUGGGUCGGAGCUCUGUGCACAAUAGAAAGUCUGAUCAUCAAGGUUUUUAUUGGUCUUUACUCUUUUGUAUUUAUUUGCUUUAGAUUGUUUAUUUGAAUGAUAUAUUGUUUGAUAAUAAUUUGAAGAAAUGAAAGUUUUUGAAUGUAAUUAUAUGGGUUGGUGUCAUAUCAGUAUCUAAACAUCAGACAUGUCAUCAAUAUGAAGUGUUGGUGCUACAUUAAUUUGAAUAAUUUACAAACAGUGAAAUGGAAAUUUGAAUAUUGGUGAAUGAUUAUUGGGUGCAGAACAGUGAUCAUGGCAAAGGAUGCAAUUACUUUGUUGGGUCAUUUAGGUUGGAAAAAGGCUCAUGUUUUUGGGCAAUUAGCGGGUUAUUAUUUUGUGUGUGUGUUUCUCUGUCUUUGAUUUGAUUAGGUUGAGUUUAUUUGUGUGUUUAUUUUUAAAUAGUUUGCCUAUUGAAACAGGAUCUAUGAUAGCUUGUAAAAUAGCAGCAAUGGUUCCUGAUAGAGUUCUCUCCCUGACAGGAGAUUUUCAAUGUUUUCCAGAGGUAUAUCUCCCUUUUAUAAUUCUUUGAACAUUUUGAUUUAUUUUUACGGCACUGUGAUUAGAGCAUUGACGACGCAAUAUUUGUAAGACGUUAACUACAUCAAUGAUUGCUAGCCACACUUUUUAAUUACAAACUUAGCUCAUGACGAGUGGACCUGCAUACGUAAUAAGUAUAAUUUGUUGGUACAGAUUUUAGGUGAUCCUUUAGGACAAUUUUAGUUGAGAAUUUAUCUUUCUAUGGUUUUGAGUCAGAAUUUUGUUGAGAAUUUCAUAGUACUAAAAUUGUCUUGGUAUGUUAUUUGCUAAUUUUUAAAGAAUAUUGACGGCUGUUGAUUCAGACACUAAACUCUGUUGAUUCAUGCAUAUUUGAUUUCUAAGUAUUUCUCAAGACAGUUAUCUGGAAGAAGAUGUAUGCUAGUUUUAUCUCUUCCCUGCAUCUUCUUAUCCCCAAACUACUUUCUAAUUUAAAUUUCUAUAUGCAGGAAUCACUUACUUUCUCUGUUUUUGUAUGGAAUAUGUCUACGAGUAAAAUUAUUGUGAGAAUUGGGCCAUAUCUUUAGAAUUGACGCUGAGCUUGUUAAUGCAACAAAUCAAAAUUCUUGGUUCAAGCUAUUAGCCAGGUGUGUAUACAGCUCUUCAUUAGGAAGGUGUGUAUUUAGCUAUUUCAUGAUUCUAGUCGAGUCACUCAUGUUAUUUCAUUAUGUUUGUGUCAGAUAUGUUGUGGAAUGCUGCUGACUUGCAGCCAUGUUUGUGUCGGACAAUUUUAUUUAUCAAGUUGUGUUGUGUCCACUGCUUUUCCUGAAAGCAAGAGGAUGCUUCAGCUGAACCACAGAAUCUAUAAGAGGUGAUGAUUUUGGAUGAUAUGAAUGAGAAAUCAACCGUUUAAUUUGAUAACAAAGUGAAUUUUACAUCUUUUAACUCUUUAUAUUUUAGUAUAUUAGCAUUAGUCAUAUCACUUACAGAGAGCAUCUCCUGUGAAACUGAACAGGUGACACUUAUUUCGCUUUGAACUAUGGAUAUUGUUGAAUGUGAGGAAUUGAGAUCCCUGCCAUAAGGUAUUUGACACCUCACUUCACUUGAGUUUUUGAAUAUUCGUGGUUACCCAUAAGGAAUUGAAGACAUUUUUUAAGAGACUUGAUUUAUGUGAACCUUGUGAUUUUGUCUGAGACGAAAUCGAUUAAAAUUGUCAACCUUAUGGGUCAGAUUAUCGUUAUCGCGUUUCCACUUCCAUUGAUGCUGGUAUUGAUAAGAUAUAGAUCUUCAUUCCUAUAGUAUUAAUUUUAACAUAUACUACUAGAUUUCAAUUUGAUUUCAUGUAUUCAUGAAAAUAUGCAGGUGAUGGUCCUUCAUUUAUGAAAUAGCCCUUUCAUGUAUAAUAUAUUUAUGAAAGAGUCGGAGUUUCAUGUUCGAUCACGGGAAACACCAAUAUUAGGAAUGAAGUUUGCUGCUGAAGAUUUCAAUUUCCUUUAACUGAUAGCUCUUUGCUGGUUAUGGUUAAUUUCAAGGUAAGGCAUAGUUCAUAUCUUAGUGAAUACUUUAACAUGAAUUUUCUGCCUCGUCAAACUAAUUUAUUUUAACAUACAUGUCGAAACUUUAGUUGGCUUUCUUUUUAUUGCAUGCUUCAACAAAGUAAUACUCUUUCCACCUCCUUGUGGUUAGAGUUGGUUUUCAGGACUUUAUAAUGCUAAUUACCUUCACAUAUCAUUUUUUAACCAAACAUAUUUAAAAUUCCAUCCUUAUAGCAAAGAAAAAAAUAGUAUAUUGUAUAUGUAUGGUAAGAUUUUAUAAAGGAAUUGAGUGUAUUUUGGUCAUACAUACAGGCAAGGGACUGAAUGUAUUUUGGCCUGAAAAAUCAAUCUCCAAAGAAGGCAGUGAACAAUGGUGAUCCAACACAAUAGCCGAACUUAAUUCCAACUAAUAACAGAUGUUGAAAGAGUUAUAUAUAGCUUCGCCUAAGCCUCAGGAGGCUGUCCUUGAUUUUACGAUAUCUACUAGUAGUAAUGUUGCUGAAAUAAGGGAUUCUUUGUAUUAAUCUCUUUCCCAUUCCUCUAGUGUAGUUUUUUGUUGGUGAGCUUAUAAUCAGACAUUUUGUGCCUUGGUUGUACCAAACAAUGUACAUACAUUUUUUAUUUAAAAGGGACAAAUACUUUUUUGAAUUCAUACUUAAUCAAGUAACUACGAGAUAUUUUUGUCAUUUAUAAAAUUCACUUGUCAACAGAAAUGUAACCAGACAAAGAAUUCAAUAAACAUGGCACAAGUUAUCAUCAGCACACAUGAAUGAUCCUUAAGAAGGGACUUCAGCUUGAGGAUAUGUAAUAUAAUAAUAUUGAUUUCCUUCACAAAUUAGCUUCCACUGAAUAUAUUUAAGAACUCAUCCUUGUUUUAUUUCAAAUUCUUGUUUCUUAUCUGUUCAGUAAGUGAACUUGUUAUAAAUAUCCGUGUCUGGGGAGUUUGUUUAUAAUAUUUCAUGAUAAGAACUAGGAUUCGACAUAAAACAAAGUCAAUAGAAUUCUCGAUCUCUCAAACUCUGAAAUGCUUAUUAUUUUAAUGAUUCUAGCUAGAGCAAAGUGAUUGUGCCUGAGUCAAACACAUCUGAUGUGAAGGGUGGUUGUGCAUGAGUCGAACGCAUCUGAUGUGAAAAUGGGAAAUAUUAGUGAAUAUACACUAUCGGCGUAAAAUUGGUUUGCAUUAACGUUCAGAUAGAGCUCACUGUUUUCAUGUUUUGCCAAGCUAUGUUUUCAUCUCUACAAUGCAAUUGUAUAAUUCUUCUUUUCCGCCAUGCCCCCCUCGGCCUCAUCAUCGAACUUAGUUGAUUCUCCAAAUUAUUAAAAUCAAACCACCAUAGAAUACCAAUAUAUUAAGCAAGGUUCCCUAAUUAUCCUGGUUUAUGCACAAUUUAUCUGGCGCCGAUAUUUGUUGGUGCACUCUCCCUCUCUUUUUCUUCUUUGUUAAACUGUGUGAUUACUUGUAAUAUUAGAUAGCUUGCGCAGCAGGUUACUCUGCCAUUCCAUAGAUCUUUACUGUGUACUAGCAUCAUAUGAUUCUAAUCCUAGAUAAUAGUUUGUUAGAGUUAGUUAGGAUCAUAUACAGCUUUAUAUUAGCUUUGUUGUAACCAAUUUCAGAUCAAUUCAUAGAAUAAAACCUAAAUAGGAUUAGAAGAAAACCUUUGUAUAAUCUAAAGACAAUAUACACAAAUAAUAAUAUUGGAGUUGUGAACCUAAAGGAUACAAAUAGAAAAGGAAAAAAAAAGAGCUGAAAUGGUUGAUAACAACACUUAGAAUAAUUCUGGCAAUGUUAAUGACAUGUCUUAGGCUAGUGGAACAACUAACUUGGAACAUAGUAUCGAUGCUAACACUAUUCAUGAUCACUAACUUAGUCAAUUAAAACAUCAACCAGAUUCUCACCAUGCUCCCUAGCAAUGUUGAAAUCUUUAAUGCCGUCCAUUCUCUUAACAAGGGCUCUGAUGGAUUUGGAGCAUUUUCCUUUCAAACUUAUUGGAAAUUAUUAAACUGGAGGUUAUAAAUGUUGUUAUGCAAUUCCUCUCAAAUGGACGGCUUCUUCCUAAUUUUAAUCCAAAAACUAUUGUUUUGACCCCAAAGGUCCCUAAUGCUGAUAAUGUGAAUCAAUUUAGGUCUAGAGCAUUAGCCAACUUCAAGUUCAAAUUCAUUACAAAAAUCAAUGCUAGAAGAUUAACUUAGAUCAUGCCAUUAUAAAAAAUAUGUUUGAAUUACAAAGCUAUAUAUAGAUUUGUCAAUGUUUGAAAGGUCUUGGCCUAGUCUCCCUUUCUGUUUGUUUUCUUUCCUUUCUUUGAAUAUAACGUAACUAUGUGAUACACUUAGAGCAUCACCAUUUAUAAAAACAAAAAAAAUAUAUUGGCAUUUGCCAAAUAUUUUGAUACUUUAGACUGGCACUUUCUAAUAAGGAUUCUCAAAGCUUUUGAUUUAAACUGUACUUUUUGCAAUUGGAUAAAUUGUAGUCUCAAAUCAACAAUGCUUUCUAUGUUGUGAAUGGCAAACAAGAAGUCUACUUUUCUUUUAAGAUACGGGAUAGACAGAGAGACCCCAUCUCCCAUUUACUUUCAUGUCGUAAUAAAGAAGUCAUCAGUGUAACAUCUAAGACUGUUUUUAGGAUUGGCGAUUGACCCCACAAAUUAAUACGAGUCUUUUUAGUAUGUUUUGUUCUCUCUCGCACGCUUUUCAAGAAACUUUUUAGAAUGUCACCCGUCCCAAAAUUGCUCCAAGUUGAGCACGCUUAAUUGUGGAGUUCUUAUGGUUUGACCUACCGAAAAGAAGAUGCAUCUUGUUUUUAUAGGUAGUACCAAACAAUUCAUAUAAGCCUUCCUUCAACAAUGAUGUCCCAUACUUGCACAACCUCAGGAUCCCUCUCAUUCUGAUGUGAUUCGGUUUUGCCAAUAAGCGUGUCAGGAGUCGGACCACUACAUGCCCUUGUCAGUCUCGGACGUUACAUGCCCACCAAGUGGAGGCGUUACAUUCUCAACUGCUUCCGCUUGGUUCAUCCCCGAACCACAUCAAACUGGAGAGGUCUACUUUGAUACCACGUGUAACAUCCCAGACUGCUUUCAAGAUUGUCGAUUGACUCCACAAACCAACAGGAGUCUUUUCAGCGUGUUUUGUCCUCGCUCGCACGCUUUUCGGAAAGCUUUCAAGAAAGUCAUCCAUCCCAAAAUUGUUCCAAGUCAAGCACGAUUAACUGUAGAGUUCUUAUUGUUUAGGCUAAAACAAUUUAUAUCUUGUAUUUAUAGGUAGUAUAAAACAAUUUAUAGAAAAACGACACACAUAAAAAAUAUUAAUUUACUUCUUAUUGUAGUGCAUUAGUAUUAUUUUAUAGUGAUAUUCUAGUUUUUCUUAUCUUCUAAAAUCCAACAAGACGUGGAGGCUAUUAAAACUAAUUUUUUUAUUUUUUAAGCCAAAUAGGGAAUAUACUCCCUCCGUUUCAUAAUACUUGUCCAUUUUAGAGAAUAAUUUUGUUUCACAAUACUUGUCACUUUCAAGUUUCAAUGCAACAUUAGUUAUUGUCUUGUCAAUAAUACCCUUGCAUAUUUAUUGUAGAGAGAGAAAAAAAUAAAAUGAAAUAAUAGAUGAUUAAGGGUAUUAUAAAAAACACACACAUAUUUUCAUCAAAAAUAACAAAAUUUAUUUGGUUUCUUGGUUAGUGCAAUUUCUCCAAAAUGGACAUGUAUUUUGAAACGGAGGGAGUAAUAAAUAAAAAGGAAGACAUACAAAGACUGGGGCAUAGGACCUGACCCAGGGACAACCCAAACGGGGAUACAACAUGAUAAAUUAGUCUAGGAGGAUCAACUCUAAAUUAUCCUAACAUAAAUUCACUAAAUACGAGCGCUACCCAACGAAUCCGCGUACAGGUGCAAAACUAGGUUAAAAAAAGAAUGAAAAGUGAAAAUCCGCACAGGACAUCUAGAGAAUGAAAAAUAGGCUAUUAAAACUAAUUAAAAUGUAAGAGUAAUAUAAAAUUUGAAGUGUUUCUCAUAUCUUCUAAAACCCAACAAGACAUCUAAAUUAUUAUUUAUUAUGACAUCAAAAUAAAAAUAAAGACUAUGAAGUAAGGUAAAAUUUAUUUAUCAACCUAACUCUUAAAGUUAUUCUUAUAAGGCUGAUAUGCCUAAAUUGUAUAACAUGAUGAUACCUUCAAAAUUAAUGGAGAAGAGGACAAUCAAAAUAAUAAUCUUUAUUGACUUAAAGUAAGUUUUUUUUUUUUUUUUUUUUUUUUUUACAAUAAAGUAAGCUUAUUACAGUAGAACACUAUAACUACAAGUUUCAUCAAAUUAAAAAAAUAAAGGAAAAUGUUAACUUGUGUCUUUAAGGCACAAACUAAUGAAACAAAUAUAGAAAUAGUUUAUUGAAAUGUGUGCAUUACAUUUAAUUUUUAAUUUUUUAAUGAGUUGAAUGCACAAAAUUUUAUACUCCCUCCGUCCCUUAAUAAGUGACACAGUUGACCCAAUUACGCAUACCAAUGCGUAAAUUUGAGUUUAAAUAUCUUGAAUAAUAUAUUGGAAAAAAUUAUGAAAAUUUGAUAUUUUGAAAAUACUCAUCGAGACGAAUCUAACGACAUCUUAUAUGAUAUUAUUUAUCUUUGUAUAUUAAUAGAAAAAUAUGGUCAAAAUAAGUUAGGUCAAAAUUGCACAUUUUCAAAUAUGUCAUUUAUUGCGGGAUGGAGGGAGUAAAAUAUUUCUUUUUUAAAGUUUUAAUGGUCCGAAACUAAUAGAAUCGUAAGUGCGCUGCUACCAAUUCACAUUUGUGAUUAAUGCAUUUAUAAAUAUAAAACAAGUUCCCACUUUUUGGACAAUCAGCAUCAAUUUGACAUUCAUCACUUGCUGUAAUAAGAAGAAAAAAAGUCAAGAAAAUAAUGUUACUACAUGAUUGUGUACGAGCCACAAAGUAAAAAAAGAAAUUUGAAAAGAAUAAAAGGAAUGGCUUACCAACACCAAAUUUCGUUGCGAUGAGAAAUAAGGAAAUAAAUAGAAUCCUGACACAAACAAACUUAAGAAUUUGAACCAUAUUUUAUCUUGUUUGAGUGUAAAAAAUAGAAAAUGAUUUGGUCUAUUUAUAAUUUUCCUGCUCUCUAAAAUAAUGAAAUAUUUUUAGCACUUACAAAGUUGAAACCGUCGUUCAUAAUAUUAUGAUCAUUAUUAAAUAUUUAUUAAGUAUAUCAAUGUGUUGUGUUUGUUCUUUUAGCACACUUAAGGUGAGUCAAAUAACAAAAUUACUAAUCAUUAAAAUUCAUUCUUUAUAUUUAACUUUUAUUUACUUUUUUUAAAGUUAAAAGUUUUUUUUUUUUAAGAAGCUAAAAUGAAUUAUAUUACCACCUCAAAAGAGUCUUUCCUAGCACAAGACGUACUAAGGAAAAAACAACAAUGUCCUAUUACAAUCUCCAGUACAAAGCUAAAGAUAAAAGAGAAGAAACAUUAGCCUAUGCCCAUAAUAGUAAACGGGCUAAUCCACCACCCGUGGUAAUUGAGGGGAAGAGAGGAAUACUUCGCCUUCAACCACGUAAAGGCAAGCGACUUAAUAUUGUCUACCACCUGAUUAACCGAGCAUUCUUUGACAUUAAACAGCAUAUUGUUUCUUUCCUUCCAAAUUUCCCAAACAACUGCAUACCAAAUAACCUGAAGAAUAGAGCGAUGUGCCUUUGUGAAACCACCACCCAAACUAAACUGGUUAAAAUGAUCGGACACCUGAAAAGGGGAAGCCACGGACAAGCCUAACCACCUAUGAAUAAAGUGCCAUACAGAACCAAAAAAAUUACAAUGUAAGAACAAAUGAUUUGAAGUUUCCAGAGAGCCACAACCAGCGACACAAAGCCUGGAAGUUUGGUUAAUAACACCACGACGGAACAAAUUAUCUUUUGUGGGCAAUCUAUCUCGAAACAACCGCCACGCAAAGAGCACCACCUUCAACGGAAUGUCUCUAUGCCACAAAAAACAAGCAUCCACUGAAAGCACUAAAGGAGGUUGAAGAGUAAGAUAGUUAUAGGCACUUCGGACAGUGAAGACACCUGAAGAUUCUAACGUCCAAAGCCAUUUAUCAACCUUCGCAACCUGUAAAUUCACAUUCUGAAGCAAUAAUAUUAGAUCCCCGAAUAACCCUUCCUCCCAUACAAACAACCUCCGCCUCCAUGUCCACGCCUCACCGCCUACCCCCCAACCUAAAUGACACAUAUCAAACACCGAGUUCCCCUUAAACACCGAUAAUUCAUAUAGUCUAUUAAACCUGACCCUAAACUCCUCUCCACCACACCAAACGUCCGACCAAAAAAGAGUAUUCUCCCCAUUACCUACCGCCCUCCUGACGUGGUUAGUGAACCACUCCUCCCUAUAUAUUGCGUAAACAUCAUGCCACCACAACGAAGCCUCGCGGCCUCCUCCCAACAGCCUCCCUCCCUCCAACCCAUACCUCGCUACCAACACCCUAAACCACAAAUUGACAUUAUCCUCCAACAACCUCCAACACCAUUUCCCUAACAACGCUAAAUUAAACUCCCUAAUUCUCCUUACCCCCAAACCACCAACCUCCUUACCACGACAAAUAGUGUUCCAAUCCACCCAAGAUAUUUUCCUGUGGUCAUCACCCCCCCCCCCCCCCCCCCCCCCCCCCAAAAAAAAAAAAAAACAAUUUAAAAUAGAUUCGAAAGAGGAUACGAUACCUGACAAACAAAGUUUUCUUUUAGACCAUCGUAAUAUUAUUAUUUUGGAAUAAUAUACAUAAUUGGAGAUGAGAAAUAAGUAGAGUGUAUUGUAGGAUCAACUUUUAUUGUUGAUAAAAUCGUUGAAUUAAAAAAAACACCUUUCCUUGAUUUAAAAAAUUGAUGUGUAUUUUAUAGAACUUUUUUUAUUCAAUAAUAUUUAAGGUUCAAAAACUCAACCUAAAAGUAGUGGUUUAGGGACAACCUAAAUGCAGAUGACAUUUAUUUGUAAGAACAAUUAAAAGUAAUAAAAUUUCAGCGUCUAACAACAUCAUAUAUAUAUAUAUAUAUAUAUAUAUAUAUAUAUAUAUAUGGGUUUUGCUAGAAGACAACUUUUAUCAUCGGCGGAGCUAGGAAAAAAGUAUAGGAUGGGCUAUAAAUAGUGAUGGGGCUUAAUUUUCUUACAGGUACAUUUUAUCAUUGGUUAGUUUCAAUGACUACAAAUUUGUUAUUUGUUGAAUAUAAUUCAAACCGGUAUUUUAAAAUCUGAACCGUUUAUCAACCUUGAUAAAGUACAAGAUAAUUGAUCGAACAACUAGGUCAUUAAACCUAACGACUGAAUUAAAUGACUCAACUUCAAUAAACAGAUGUAUAGGUAUUAAAUCGAAUUGAAUCAAACGACUGAGUAAAAAGAAAAACUCAUGACAUAUGUAUAUUAAUGUAAAAAAGAUCAUUACAUAAGAAAAUAUACUUAUAAUCAAGUACAAUAAUGAAAUCAUAUUGUCCUUGCCUCAAUUAUUUUUAUGAUUUCUAACAAAUUCUAUUUUAUUUUAUUUAUGAUUUCUAAAAAUUAUUUUUAUUUUUUAGAAAAUAGGAAUGAAUCAUAUUUAAACUAAGAUCAAUAUGAUAUCUGAAGUAAGAAAUGAUGUUAGUGAUUGGCCCUUGCCUCAAGUCACUAACGUUGAUGAAUGGGUUCCUUUUGAAGGGCAACUAUUUGAAGAUAAUGAAUAUGUAAAUUCUUUAACAUUUCAAGAGCUACAACAUGAACCCUUGCCUCAAGUCAACAACAUUGAUGAGGGGGUUCCUUUUGAAGGGCAAGUAUUUGAAAGUGAUAAUGUUGCUUAUGAAUUUUAUUGUUUAUUUGCAAAACAAAAUGGAUUUUCUAUUAGGCGUGAUCACAUUUAUAAAUCUAGUAAAAAUGUGUCUGAAGAGAAUCCAUCGGGUGUUUAUAAGAGGGAAUUUGUUUGUCAUCGUGGUGGUAUUGUUAAACCACGCAAAACUGUUGAAGUGGAAAAUCAAAGGAAACGAAAAUCUUCAAGAUGUGAUUAUGGUGCAAAGAUGGUAGUUAAUAAGAGAACAAUUGUCUUUGAGAAAAAAUGGGUGGUUAAAUAUUUCAACAAUUCUCACAACCACGAGUUAUUGGAUAACAAAGAGGUUCGAUUUCUUCCUGCUUAUCGUAACAUUCCAAUUGUUGAUCAAGAUCACAUACUAUUAUUAUCUAAAGUUGGUUGCUCUGUAAGUAUUAUAAUGAGAGUGCUUGAGUUAGAGAAAAGAACGGGCACAGGAAAUUUACCAUUCUUAGAAAAAGAUAUUAGAAAUUUUAUUCAGUCAUAUAGUGGUAUUGGUAAAGAAAGUGAUGCUGCAGAUGUUCUCAGAUUGUGCAAAAGUUUGAAAGAUCGAGAGGAGGCCUUCCAAGUUGAAUUCACAAUUGAUGAAAGUAACAAAUUGGAGCAUAUUGUUUGGGCAUUUGGUGAUUCAAUUCGCGCAUACGAAGCUUUUGGAGAUGUUGUAGUUUUUGAUACCACAUAUAGAAUAAACCGUUAUGGGAUGCCUCUUGGAAUAUGGGUUGGUGUUGAUAAUCAUGGAAAUUCAAUUUUUUUUGGUUGCGUUCUAUUGCGAAAUGAGAAGAUUUCUUCCUUCGAAUGGGCUAUAAAGGUAAAUUUCUAUUUACUCAAAGUUGUUAUCACUGUUAAAUUUUUAAAUUUGAAACUUUAUUAAAUUAAUUUAGAUUUAUGUUACAAUUUUCAGAGUUUCCUAGCUUUUGUGAAAGGAAAAUAUCCAAAAACAAUUCUUACCGAUCAAGAUCUUUCAAUUAAAGAAGCCAUUGCAACGAAAUUGCCAAACACAAAACAUGCAUUUUGUAUAUGGCAUAUUGUCGCAAAGCUGUCAAGUUGGUUUUCUUUUCCACUAGGUUCGAGAUAUGAUGACUUUAAACAUGAGUUUCAUAAGGUAUAUCAUUUAGAAUGUGCAGAUGAUUUUGAACGAGAAUGGAAAAUAAUGGUCUCACAGUUUGGUUUGGGCGUGGAUAAGCAUAUUGACUUGCUCUUUUCCCAUCGUAAAUUUUGGGCCUUAGCUUAUUUGAAGGACUUUUUUUUUGCUGGAAUGACAACAACAGGACGCUCAGAAUCGAUAAAUUCAUAUAUAAAAAGAUUCUUAGAUGCCAACAACAGGACGCUCAGAAUCGAUAAAUUGUUAUAUUUUUGUGUAGGUUGGUGUUGCUGUCAAAAUUAGAAAUCAAGCUGGAGAAUAGGCACGAAUGCGUCAAAAGUAUCAUAAUCCUCAUAUUACAACACAUUUUCCUAUUGAAGAACAUGCCUCGUCUAUACUCACACCUUAUGCCUUUAAGUUGCUUCAAUAUGAGAUCGAAUUAUCCGCAAAGUAUGAAGCAAUUGAAGCUGACAAUGGCUCUUAUGUUGUGCAACAUCAUACCAAAGUUGAUGGUGGUCGUAUAGUAAGUUUGAUAACAGAAGAAGAGUCAAUUCAUUGUUCUUGUAAAGAGUUUCAAUUUUCAGGAAUACUAUGUAGACAUGCAAUUCGAGUGCUAAUGUUGAAAAAUUAUUUUGUUCUUCCAUCAACAUAUCUUCCUUUUUGACGGAGACGAGAAAGUUCAUUGAUCCCAAAAUCUAGUCAUGUGAUUAACUGCAAUGAUGUAUCCUCUGCCAAAUUUCAAUCUCUAAUUCGAUGUUUGGAAGUCGAAUCAUUAAAGACAAGUGAACGAGAACAGGUUUCUACAAGAGAGUUAGAAAAUAUCAUCAUAAAGAUAAAAGGCAUGCCUGAAACUCAAGAACAUGUGAUUGAUUUGGAAGCGGAUGUUUCCAACAAUGACGACUACGACGUUGAAAAUCCUGUUGUUUCAAAAACAAAAGGUCGGCCAAAAGGAUCAAGACCAAAAGGAGGGGUUGAAGCUGCCAAGAAGCCUCGUCGUUGUCAUGUUCCAGAUUGUGGUGGAACUAAUCAUGACUCACGAAACUGUCCAAACAAAAAGAGAAAAAUGGAAGUAUUGCCUUCUCAAUCUCCUAAUAAGUAAGUUUUAAUUGGUGUGUCUUGUUCUACUCAUGACUAAUAUAUUAAAUUAAUGUUGACUGAAUUUUUAUGGUGCUUUGAUAGGAUCAUGAAGGGUUGGAAGUAGUCAUCUUGAAAUAGUGAAUUUGACAGAUGAAGCAGCCAAAUAGUUUAGAUCAAACCGUGUAAUUAGUGAAUUUUGUGGCUGCAAUCUGUAAGAUCAAACUAGCAGUAUAUUUUGUAGGAUUAUUAUGAUCAAAUUGUAUAAUUACUAGUAUAUUUUGUACCAGUAUAUAGCCUGUGUUUUGUUCCAGUUCGCCCAAUCUUUCUCUUCUUGAGAGGUCCUGUUUGGCUUAAUAUAUUAUUGCACAUUAUUAUGAUUAUGUGAAAUGUUGAUGUUAAUUAUUGAACAUCAAAUUGGUUAUUAAAAGUCAAAGAGUCUAAAAAAAAAAAAAAAAGUAAAAGAUCAAACUAGCAAUAUAUUUCUGUGAAAUAUAUUAUUGCAUAUUAUUGCACCUCUUAAAAAAGAAGUAAAAGAUCCAAUGAAAAAAUGUGUUCUCUUUUUGACAAACACAUUGGUUGUAGGAAGAGAGAGAAAAUGAUGAUUUCUAGGUGAAUGGGAAAUGACUUUAAAGGACGUGUAUUAUAUCAUUAUUGAAGAACAAUCUAAAUUUCCUUUGAUUUACAUGAUUGUGAAUUAAUUUGUAUUAGGAGAAGUGAAUCAAUCUAAAUUAAAUCAUUUGUAUUAUAUCAUUACGGAGGGAGUAACUAGUGGUUUAAUGACAAUCUAAAUUUCCUUUGAACAACCCCACAAACAACUUGAACCGUUUUUUUUUUUUUUUUUUUUUUUUUUUUGUCAAUUAACAACUUCAAAAUUUUAUUUCUUAAAAUACUCACAUUGAAAUAAUUAUUUUAUCCACGUUGGGUUUUGAUAAGGUAUAUAAUACAAUGAUAAGGUAAUUAUUUUAUUCAUAUUAAAUAAAAUAUUACCUCAAGAAAGAAAAAAAAGUUCAUGAUUGGUAAAUAUAUAUGUUUGGAUUGAUGAAAAUGCAAGUAGUAAAAUCUAAAGAUUCUCUACCCUAUGGUAUAAGUUACUACUAUAUAAGGCAAACUAUACUUCUCUCAAAAAAAUUAAAAAGGCAAACUAUACUAGCGAUAAAUUUACGUUAAAAUGACCCUCUUUUAAUUCAUAUAUAGGAAAAUGAAUUGAAAUUUUUUUCGCGGACAACGGUGGUAUUUUUUCCAAUUUUGGUGAAAACACUCUACAUUUUUUUUUUAUUGAUAAACGAAAUAACAAGAACUAUUGAAAACUCACGUAAAUGGAGGAGUCUAGUUCAAACCUCGACCACCAUAUCCAACAUAACAAUUUUAGUAUUUUAGAACUAUGACUUAUGUACAAAACACUACAUUUUAAAUAGAGAUUACUUCUUUAAAACUCAUCUCAAACAUGUUUUAUUGGAGCGACCGAGCGUGGGUCACCUUCAGUUUAGGAAACUCUCCCUUUUUGAGAGGGGCGGGUUGGUUAAACCCUUUUCUGAGGAUGAGAUUAAGGCGGCUGUGUGGGAUUGUGAUAGUUUUAAGAGUCCGGACCCUGAUGGGAUCAACUUGGGUUUUUUUAAGUCCUUUUGGCCUGAGUUGAAAACAGAUCUUGUGCGCUUUGUGACCGAAAUCCAUAGGAAUGGGAAAUUAACGAAAGGCAUAAAUUCUACAUUCAUAACCCUUAUUCCUAAAGUUGCUAGCCCACAAUCUUUGAAUGAGUUCCGCCCUAUUUCUUUGGUGGGGAGCUUGUACAAAAUUUGGUUAAUGCAACCUCAUCAUUUUAGGUGCAUUUCCCAUUUUACCCUACACCAUUUUUUUAAUUAUUUUAUUAUUUUUAUAUUUUUAAUAACUUUUACAAUUUUUAUUUUUUUAACUAUUUUUCAAUUUGUUCACCCAAAUUCAGUUGCUUCUAAAUUGCCGUUGUGGGAGAGUAAGAUAUCGCUUGAUUCGGGUUUUUUCCAACUUCUCUACAUUUUUAAGGAGAAGUUAGAUCAAACACACUAUCAAUUAUUUUAAUUUCAAUAUUGUUUAAUCAUCACAACCUCACAAAUAUUUUUAUUCACACUGUCAUUUAAUGAUACCAAAUACUAUUAUUUCCUUUCUUCAACCUCACAAAUAUUUACACACACAUUAAUGUUUAGAGUAAUAUUUUAUGUCCGUCUGUGUUUUUGUUAAGCUAAUGCAUAUAAUUUUUUUUAGUGUUGCUUGGUUGAGUGCUACCUCACCGAUUUGUUUUAACUAUUUUCCAAUUUUUAUACUUUUAAAUACUUUUAACUAUUUUCCAAUUUUUCCUCCCAAAUCCAGUUGUUUCUACACUGCCAUUGUGGGAGAUUAAGAUAUCGUUUGACCCGGUUUUUUUUUUUACUUCUCAACAUUUUUAAAAAGAAGUAAGGUCAAACACAAUAUCAAUUAAGUACUUGAUGAGUCAUUUAUUGACUAUUUUAAUAUGCUUUUUAGUUUAGUUUUAUUUAGAUUUUAUAUAAUUUUAUAUUAGUAUUAUUUCCUUUUUACGAUAGUUUACUUUAAAUUGCAUUUUAUUAUAUUUCAGGAAAGAAUAUUGGAUGGAUUGAGUCUUGGAGCAAAAGAAAGAGACUUGGAGCCGAUUGGACACAAAAAAUAUGAAGAUUGAGAGACAAAAUAUGUCUCCCACAAGUCAGAAGCCUAGCACGGCCCAUGCUAGCCUUGGCACGGCCGUGCCACCCUCCAGAGUGCCUUUUGCUGCUUUUGCUUAGAUUUUAAGCUACUCUAUUUUUGGCCCAAAUGUAAUAGCUUAGAUUUUAAGUCGAUCAAAUGCUAUAAAUAGAGUAGCCAUCCAUCACAAAUAUUCAUCUUUUCUUAGAAUGCAAUAUGUGACAAUUGUCUUUCUAAUAAAAGUUCAUUUACUUUAUUGUUAUUUACUUUUAUGCUUUCUCUCUUCUUCUCCUUGUCUACGAUAAACAUUAGUGAGUAGACUUCUCUUGUCUUGGGAUUGUUGGAUAAGCCUAAUGACAUAAUCCUAAUCAAACAAAGCUUUAAACCUUAAUCUUAUGUAACCCUAAUUCCUUAUCUAAAUUCACCGCUUUAACAUGGAUCAACCAUUAUCAAACUGUGGAAACGAAAGUGGAGGGUUUGAUAAUUGUUUAUCCAUCAUCUUAAAUAUCAAUUCAUAAAACGAAAGUGGAGCUUUGAUAUUCGAACAAGUGAAUUCAGACAAGGAUUGCAAAGUCAGCGAAAUAGGCUUUGCAAUCUUUGAGACAUAUAGUUUCGAUCUUCAAGGGAACUGAUAAUAAUCAAGUCAGCGAAAUAGGCUUGGUUGUUAGAGGAACCAAAAUCUAAUAGUAAUCAAGUCAGCGAAAUAGGCUUGGUUGCUAGAGGAACAUAAGAGAAACUGUCUUGAGAAAUUAGGUCUAACAUAACAUUAUAAGCUUAUAGUUUUGGUUUGAGAAGGACUUGUCAUUUAGAGGAAACCAACGAUCCCAAGGCUCUUUUUAUUAUUAUUAUUUUCUUCCAAACGCUUGAAAACCCCCAACUUACAAUUCUCUCCUCUCUUCUAAUCAUCUCUAAAAAGUUAAUUGAAUUGAACUACUCCCUGUCGGAACGAUACUCUUUUAUACUACUUCGGUAAGACCGUGCACUUGCGGUUUUAUCUCAUCAAGUUUUUGGUGCCGCUGCCGGGGAGUAAACUAAUUUGAUUAACUCUUUCCUUGUGAUUAGAACUCUCUUCUCUUCCUUUUUUUUUCUUCUACUUCUUUUGGCGAAAAUUCUAGCAAACAAGUUGAGGCAGGUUAUUGGAAGUGUUGUGUCGGAAACUCAGUCUGCUUUUGUGAAGGAUAGACAAAUUCUUGAUGGUAUCUUGAUCGCGAAUGAGGUGGUUGAUGAGGCAAGGAAAACUAAGAAAGACCUUUUGUUGUUCAAAGUGGAUUUCGAGAAGGCGUAUGAUUUUGUAGAUUGGGGGUACCUUGAUGAGGUGAUGGGGAGUAUGUCGUUUCCGACGGUGUGGCGAAAUUGGAUUAAAGAAUGUGUUGGUACUGCUACUGCCUCAGUUCUUGUGAAUGGAAGUCCUACUGAUGAGUUUUUUCUUGAACCGGGAUUACGUCAAGGUGAUCCUAUAUCUCCUUUUUUAUUUUUAUUGGCAGCAAAAGGUUUGAAUGUGUUGAUGAAAGCGUUGGUAGACACAGAUCUAUUUACGGGGUAUAGAGUGGGGAGAGAGAAUUCAGUGGUUGUGUCACAUUUACAGUUUGCUGAUGAUACGCUUCUUAUUGGGAACAAAAGUUGGGCUAAUGUGCGGGCGUUGAGGGCUGGUCUCGUCUUGUUUGAAGCUAUGUCGGGAUUGAAAGUUAAUUUUCACAAGAGUUCACUGGUAGGGGUUAAUAUUAAUGAUUCGCGGCUGUCAGAAGCGGCUUCUGUGUUGGGGUGCAAAGUAGGUAAAAUCCCGUUUCUCUAUUUGGGGCUCUCGAUUGGGGGCGAUCCGCGUCGACUUUUGUUUUGGGAACCUGUGGUGGAUCGUAUUAAAUCUAGAUUGUCUGGUUGGAAAAGUCGGUUCCUAUCUUUCGGUGGUCGUUUGAUUCUACUAAAGUCCGUCCUGACUGCUCUACCUGUCUAUGCACUUUCCUUCUUCAAAGCUCCGACAGGUAUAAUCUCUUCCAUUGAAUCUUUGUUUAAUAAAUUUUUUUGGGGAGGGAGUGAGGAAAAAAGAAAAAUAUCUUGGGUUAGGUGGGAGACUUUGAGUAUGAGGAAGGAGUAUGGAGGGUUGGGAGUUAAGAGGUUGAGGGAGUUUAACAUUGCUUUGUUGGGUAAAUGGUGUUGGAGGUUGUUAUUGGAGAGGGAUGCUUUGUGGAGACAGGUAUUAGUGGCUAGGUAUGGUGUGGAGGAUGGCGGUUUGGAGGAUGGGGGCCGGAGUUGUUCUUCAUGGUGGAGGGAGAUUGUGAGGAUUAGAGAUGGGAUAGGUGAGGGUGGAGAGGGUUGGUUUGGGACAUGUGUUAGGAGGAGGGUGGGAGAUGGUGCAGAUACUGAUUUUUGGCGUGAUUGUUGGUGUGGAGAUGUUCCUCUGUGUGUCCGGUUUAGACGCCUUUUUGACUUGACUGCUCACAAAUCAAUCUCAGUUAGGAAUAUGUUCCUGCUGGGGGUGGAUGUGGGCGGGGAGGCGUUGAGGUGGCGUAGGCGGUUGUGGGCUUGGGAGGAGGAGUUGGUAGAGGAGUGUAGGGCUUUGUUACUAACAGUUUCUUUGCAGGAAUCAGUGAUAGACAGAUGGCUCUGGUUACCUAAUCAUGAUGAUGGGUAUUCUGUACGUGGAGUCUAUGACAUGCUGACAUCACAGGAGCAGCCCCAGUUACACCAUAAUAUGGACUUAAUUUGGCAUAAACAGGUUCCUCUCAAAGUAUCUAUCUUUGCUUGGCGACUUCUGAGGGAUCGGUUACCUACAAAACUUAAUUUGGCAAAUCGUGGCAUUCUAUCUGUGGAGGAGCGGUUAUGUGUUUCUGGAUGUGGGAUUGUCGAAGAUGUUUCUCAUUUGUUUUUGUCUUGUACAACUUUUGGUGCAUUAUAGCCGAUGGUGCGGGAUUGGUUAGGCGUGGUAGGUGUCGACUCUCGAUCAACUUCAGAUCAUUUUGAGCAAUUUAUUAAUUAUGCAGGUUGUUCGAGAGGGCGACGGUCUUUCUUCCACUUGAUUUGGUUGCUUUGUGUUUCGGUGUUGUGGAAUGAAAGGAAUGAUAGGCUUUUUAGAAAUAGACAAAGUAUUGUGCCACAAUUGCUAGAUAAAGUGAAAUCAACUUCGUUGUGGUGGUUAAAGACUAGUAAUGUUGUAUUUAGUUUUGGCACUCAUCAGUGGUGGUCGAGCCUGCUUUUAUGUCUGGGUAUUUGACUGAUUUGUUUGUAAUUUUGUGUGGACCUUGACAUUUUUGUGAUUGUUUGGCACAUCUUGUGCGGUAACAAUUACGGUGUCCGUAUUAAUAUAUCUCAUUUUUGCAUGUUCAAAAAAAAAACCGACUUAAAUAUGUUUUAGCACAUUUUAAAGAAUAAUCAAAUCAAAAGAUUACAUAUGUUUUAAAAACUCGUGAAUUUUUCUUUUCUUGAUAUUUUCUCUAUUUUAAAGUUCUACAAGUCACGUCCCUGUGAGUAUAGCUCAGUUGGCAGGGACAAUGUAUUAUUAUAUGCAGAGGUCAGGGUUCGAACUCCGGACACUCCACUUAUUCACUUGAAAAAUAAAUUUCUAGCCACUAGGCUACCUGACCCAAAAAAAAUUCUACAAGCCACUUUUCUCACGUUGUUUUCACUAUUUUCUUAUAUCUUGACCCUUACUUUUAUUGAUGUUGUUGAAACCAAGUUGGUCCACUAAUAACAAUAUCAUUUUAUGUUUUGAUGAUUAAAAAAUAUAUCUAAAUGGUUUUUUGAUUCGCAUUUAACUUAAUUUCUUAUUACUUUGAAAUCUUUCAACAAACUAUAUUCAUUUUAAAUUUUGCAAAUUUAUUUAUGUUAGUUCUAACAUAUAUCCCGCCAUCGCACGGGUCGUGAGCUAGUAAGUGUUAUUGGUACAUGGAGCUUUAAUCUUCUUGCACAGAUACCCACUUAAAAGUUUCAAUUGGAUGGGGAGGGGUAGCUCAACUGAUCUGAGUUAAGGGAAUUUUUUUUCUGGAGGUACUGUUUGAAACGGACCAAGGAGAAAAGAGAAAAAACUAAUUUCUAACAUGCAUUAAAAAAUAAAUAAAUAUCUUCUUAAAGCACCAACCCAAUUAAUAUUUUUUAUUUAUGCACUAAAAUGAUAGAUCAGUAUAUUUUUUAUUCAGUACAAAUUUGAAUAUCUUUUUAAACUGUACAUUUUUUAUUGGAUCAAAUAUGUUUUUGGUCCCUAUAAAAUUGGAAACUUCUAAGUUUAGUCGUUACUUAAUUUUAAUAACAUUUUUAGUCCUUCUAAAAACUAAAUUUGUUUAAUUACUCUUGAAUUCUUAAAUUUUUGAACAAUUUUUUGGAGACAUGUUUAGAACAUUAUAAAAUGUUCAUUUACUAAAAAAUAGAAUUUUUUAACAUGACAAGAAUUAAAUAUGAAUUUUUAAACGUCAAAAGUUCAAGAAAAGAGUAACAAAAAUCUGGACGUAGAAAUCAAAUUUUGAGUUAAUAUUUUGUAGAGGGACUAAAUGCAAAAUGAUUUUAUAGGGACUAAAAAAACUAUUAAAAUUAAGUCAGGACUAAAUUUAAAAGGCCCCAAUUUUAUAAGGAUAAAAAAACAUAUUGAACCAUUUUUAUUUGAUGUCAAAAGGAAAAGUUCAAUCAAUAAAUUUGUUUUUGUUGUAAAAAUUUAGAUAGUCAGGCAUGAGUGAUAUGCAAAACUAAAACAAAAAAAAUACAACAAAUGUCACAUGAAGGAUUUUGAUUGAUGAAACAAAACUACCUUGACAAAAAAAAAAAAAAAGAAUUAAAAGAAAGAAAUUGAAUAAGUUAUUAAGAUUAAUAAAAUUUUCUUGAAACAUCACCGAAGGGUUGUCUUUGAAUAAAGAUUUUAGGAAAUUGUAUAUUUUUGUAUAUAGAAGUUAUAGUUUUUAAAUGAUUGUACAUUUGUAAAUAGAAGAUAAAUGCUUCCUUAUCUUAGGCUUUUUGAAAUAUCUGAAAAUAAAAUGAUUCUUUGUAACCAAUCCCCAUUACAACUCUGAUUAAGUCUGUAGUGUUCCAUGCUUGAUAGUAGCUGGUUAUAUGUAAAUUCUAUUUUCUUAUAUUGAUAUUUCAAUUCCGUUCUUAAUGUUUUUUUUUUUUUAUGUGAAAUACAAAAAUGAUAUUUGACUUAGAAAGUUGUAGACAUAGACUUUCCCUGUAAGAGAGACAUGGGUAGGAGCAUUUGUAGAUGUUAGUUACGAGGUAUUAAUCUAUGUUUGCAAUCAUACACAUUGUAUGAUCUUAAUGUCGUUACUAAAAAUAAUGAAUCUCAUAUCGUUUGUCAGACAUGGAAACAUGCGAUCAAUGAAGUAAAUUAAACGAUUAAUUAAUGAAUCCCAACAAUAUUAUCUCUUUGUUCUUGUUUCAUUUUUUUUUUAAGAAGCUAAACUAACCCCCUCAAAUUGACAUCAGAGGUAAUCGAACUUGAGAUUUUGAGGAGGAGGAGCACACUCUCAGGUUACAAGUCAAUACGACUAGGUCAACCCAAGUGGGUUUUUCUUGUUUCAUUAUUUAAUUACAAAGACAAAUAUAUGUACAAAUAAUCCAUCGUUAUGUACUAAAAAUAUUCGUAUUUCAAAAAUAUUGCACGAAUUCAUAUGGAUACGAUAACCAUAAAUAUUUAUUUUGGAAAAUGAUAGGUACAGUGACAAAAUUUAUCAAGAAAAUUUCAAAACAGUGUAUUUGCUAACACUUUUUCUUAAUUACCCAGCAUUACCUCCCUUGAUUUCCGCCAAAUAACAAAUUUAAUUGAUUGAGACAUUUUCUUGAUAUAUUCUUAAUAAAAACUAUCUAGAUAAAUAGCAAUGCUCAUUUAUUUUUUAAACAGCUAUAAAAGCAGCUGAUCACUAAGUAACAAUAUUUUUUUAUCUCAAUCUGUUUGCAAUAUUUCAAAAAUUAUUAGAUAAUUUUAUAAAUUAUUACCCCAAAAAUAAAAUUACCAUGUGUGUCACAUGGGAUAAAGAUCUAGUUUACCCUAAAUUUAAAGCAGUUGGAUUAAAUCUUCAAAAAAUUUAUAGUCACUAGCAGAGAGACAUGUCCGUCUUUCCGCUCCUUUUAUAGCACUAACAUUUAAAAAUUAUAAACAAUGUUUUUUUUUAUGAAAUUUUAAUUUUGAUUAAAAGUAAAAAUAUAAAUGUUUUUUGUUUUCAAAUUAUAACGAAUCAAACUAACUAUGAUUAUCUAUUUCAAUGAAACUAACACUAUAAAAAAAAAAAAAAUCUAAAUUCAAUUUUUUAAUGACACCAACAACGAUAUUUAUAAUAGAAAAAGUUGUUGUAUAAGAGUAUAAUUGGGAUAAUGAAAAAGUAAGUAUAGAUACACUCUUCUAGUUUGUUACACUUUUUAAAUGAUAAAGAAAAAAAUUGGAAAUUUGUGUUUGUUACACUUUUAUUUUCAUAUUUGUGUUUUCCUUAUAUAUAAUAUAGAUUCAUAAUAAUUUCUUAGUUUUAAGAUUUUACCCUUAUAAUUAUUUAAUGCAUACUAAGAUAUGUUCCUUUUAAAUCACAUCUCACUAUUAUGAUAAAAUAUAUUAAACACACACUAGUCUAUAACAAAAGUAAUACUAAGCUUUCUGCAUAGAGUCAUACACCAAUCUCAUGGAGACAACAAAAUAUAAACUAAUUAACUUUUUUUUUAACUGUUAUUAGUGCCUUAUUGUUAUUUUAUAGUGACAAUAUUCUAGUUUUUUAUAUCCACUAAAAUCCUACAAAUAUAAAUUAAAGUGUUUGCAAAUUGAAUUGUUUUUCAUAUCUUUUAAAGCUCAACAAGACAUCUAAUGUAUUUAUUUUGGCAUGCAUAAAUUAAAAAGGCUUUGAAGUAAGGUAAAAUUUAUUGAUAUACCUAACUGUUCUAUUAAAGUUAUUUUUAAAAGGUGUGAUAUGCCAUGGUGAUACCUCCAAAAUUACGAGAGAAGAAGACAAUGAAAAAAAAAAACUUUACUACCUUAAAACUAUCUUAGAGUAACACACCAUAACUACAAGGUUCAUGAGAUUAGAGAAAUUAAAUUAAAUUAUAUUAUAGAGUGCCAACAUAAUAACCAAACGACAACUCAUGAAAUAUUCUAUCAUAUUUUAAGUUGUUUUCUUUGACAUUAUAACCCAUUCUCCUUUGUAUUAUGUUUUUGCACUCUCCAUGGUUUGAAACUCAUAGAAUCAUGCAUGUGCUUCUACCAAUUCACAUCUUUUAUCAAUGCACUUAAAAACAUAUAACAAGUCCCUAUACUUUGGACAAUAAUCAUCGGUUUCACAUUCUUCAUAAACUAUAAUGAAAAAACGAUAAUAAAAUAAUGUUACUAAAUAUGUUAAAAGAUUGUGCACAAACUAUAAAGUAAAGAAGGAAAUUUUGAAAAGAAUGAAAAAAAUGACUUACUGUCACUCAGUUGUGUUCUGAUGAGAAAUACUAUGGAAAUGAAUAGAAUCAUAGCAUAAACAAACUUUAGAAUUUGAACCAUAUUUUUUCUUGUUUGCAUGUAAAAAAUUUGAAUAUGAUUUGUUCUAUUUAUAAUGUCCAUGCUCUCUUAAAAAUGAUUUUUAUAGUUUUAGCACUUAUGAAGUUGUAAAAACCCUUCAUAAAAUUAUAAUCAUCAUUAAUUAUCUCUUAAAUAUAUCAAAGUGUUGUAAACAUAAAGAGGUCAAAUGAAAAACUUACUAAUAAUAAAGAUUUAUUCCUUUUGACUAUAAUAUUCAUAUGUAAUUGAGCUUAAGUGGUUAAUGAACUUCACCAAAGAACGAAUCAUUUCGGAGAACCCGAGUUUAAUUCUUAGGUGGUACCAUUCUUGUCGGACUAUAAUUACUUCACAGCCAAAAUGCAGAUUACUGCACACACACAAAAAAAAUUCAAUGAUAAUAAAAGUAAAAUUAUCUUUUUAGACCAAUGUAAUUUUUUUUGUUUUGAAUAAUGUAUGAUUGGAUUAAGAACAUAAAAAAUCGUUGAAUUUCCAAAAAUAAAAAACUAAAAUACACAUUUUUCUUUGGUUAAAAAAACUGGAUGUGUAUUUCAUAACACUUUUUUUAUUAAAAUAUAUUUGAAGGUUCAAAAAGUACUCAACCGAAAAUCAGAUAUGCAUAUGUCAUUUAUUCAUAAGAAUCAUUUCGUCUUUUUAAUUUGACAGAAUUCUCAAGUUAAUCAUUUAAAUUUCGAAAGUUUCAAUUACGUCUUUUUAGUUUGACAUAAUUCUCAAAUUAGUCUUUUAAGUUUCAAAAGUUUUAAAUAAGUCAUUUAAGUUGAUAAACUGUUUUACCGUUACCCCUACUAUCAGUUAGUAAUUAACUUAUGCUGAUGUAGUCGUUAAGUUGUUGACUUGGAUCAAAAUACUGUUUUUUAAAAGCCCCAAGGUGUCAAAAUGUUACGUUUAAUCGUCACAAAUGAUCAUUCUAACACUAUAAAUGUUGUUUAAUAGUGCCAAAAAGACUUUGUUGUUGUAAAUAGUUGUCUUUCUAGCACUAUAAAUGAUAAUUUGUGACUAUUAAACAUAGUGGUUUGACACCCUUAAACUUUUAAAAGACAUUAUUUUGAUCUAAGUCAACAACUUAACGGCUAAAUCAACAUCAGUUAAUUAUUAUCUGACAGCAAGGGUAACGGUGAAAUAGUUUAUCACAACUAAAAUGACAUAUUUGAAACUUUUGAAACAUAAAGGACAAACUUGAGAAUUCUGUCAAAUUAAAAUGACCUAAUUAAAAUUUCGAAACUUAAAAUACUAACUUCGAAAUUCUGUCAAACUAAAAGGAAUUCUGUCAAACUAAAAGGAACAAUAGUGAUAUUUAACCUAAAAAAAAAUACACCAAAUUUCGACACACUUGAAAACAUCCAUAUAUAAGAUAUAUAUUAUAAUAUAUUUUUAUUCACAUUUCAUAAUUUUGAUUAAUUUAUAGAAAAAAAAAACUACUUGGCCGCCUAAAUGUUAGUAAAGUUUUGUAAUUAAUCCUUAAAUUUUAAUUGAUAUUCCUUAAAGCCAUCUGGUUAUGUGUAAAUUAACAAAUGACAAGGGCAUGUGACCCCUAUGCUAUAUAUAAAAUGUCUAUAGCUACAAUACCUAGUGGCUCUCAAAUUCAUCAAUAUUACAUGAAAAUGAAUUGAAAAUCAUAUGUGGUGGGUGGUAUUUUUUAAUAAAUUUGAAAACACUCUACAUUUUAAAUAGAUUAUUACUGGGAAACUCAUGCCAAACGUAUAUGUUAUACGUCUCUGUUUUAUUAGCUGACUUAAAGACGUUUUUAGUCUGUUUUUAAGAAGAACCGACUUAAAAGAUCAUAUACGUUUUAAAAACUCGUGAAGCUUUUUUUUUUUCUCGCUAUUUCUCCUCUUUAUUUUAAACAAAACCCUAGUAGUCACUUUUAUCCCGUUGUCCAUCUAGAAAUCACGCGAUUUAACCCCAACUAUAGUGCAUCACACUACAUGUCAUUGUACAUGGACACUUCGGAAUCCAUCCCAUACUCUAAAUGAUAUAGCAAAAACUAUAAAUUGGAGCAAUCCGUCAAGUUUACAGGAAUCGCUCCUAUAAAUUAGGUAUUACUGAAGCCGAGUUGUUGUAGAUGCAACAACCGAUCUAGUUGUUGUGGAAUUAUUGUAAAGAAUUUUUCUUGGAACAAAUAGAGAAUGCUUAUUUUGAGGGGAAAUAGAAAAUCCUUGGUGAUUAAGAAAAGUUAAAACUAAGAGAAUAUGAGUGGAGAGAGAUAGUGUUCUAUUUUGUGAAUCUUAAUGAUUAUGAAUAAGGGAAUGAAUAUACAAAAGUCUUUGAUGUAAGCAUUUAUACACACUCAUAAAAUGUAACUAACUAUUUCAUGCAUCUCAAUCCAUGUUGUGCCAUGCCAGUUGCUAAGUGCAUAGAACUAUUUCAAGAGUUGAGGAUUUUAUUUCGGUUCAGUGGAUAUUGACUCCUUGAAUUCGAUAAACUAGUGUGUUAACCCGUGCAAUGCACGGCGACAAGCUUCAAUUUUUUUUAUUUUCAAAAAUAUAUUAUUUUUUGUUUUUAUUUAUUUUAAUUUACCCGUGUUUUCUUACAUCGCAAUGACAAAUAUGUAUUAUGUAAUUUUAUGUUUAUUAACGAUAAAUAUAUGUCUUAUGCAUCUGUGAAAAAUAUAUUUCCAUUAUUUUCUAUAUUUGUCAACAAAAAUUGGUUGGGAGGAGGGGGUGAAGCGUGGAGGUGGAGGAGGAGGCUGUGGGCAUGGAAGAAAGAGUUGGUAGCAGAGUGUGUGACUUUACUUCACAAUGUUACUUUGCAGUCUAAUGUUUCAGAUCAGUGGCAAUGCACCCCGACUUUGAGGGGGGCUAUUCAGUGUGUACAGGUUAUCAACUGCUCACUUCACAUGAAUUUCCUAUUUCGGAUGCUUCAGAGAACUUAAUUUGGCAUACUCAGGUGCCCUUUAAGGUUUCUAUUUUAGCUUGCGUUUGCUCUGUGACAGGUCCGACUAAACUUAAUUUACUGAAUCGCGACAUAAUAUCUAUUGAGGCUACCCUUUGGUAGCAGGUCUGGUCUUGGAUUGGCGUUUCAAGGGUUGAUCAUCAAAGUCUCCGUGCUCAUUUUCCCCAUUUCACUCACUACUUAGGUGGCUUGAGGGCUCGUCGAUCUUUCCUCCAGCUACUUUGACUUCUUUGUGUUUGGUUAGUGUGGAAUGAACGAAAUAAUAGACUAUUUAAUAAUUCUCACACUUCCAUUUCAAAGCUUAUGGAUAAAGUUAAAAAAAAAAAAAAAAAAAAAUCUUACUAGUGGUUGAAGGCUAAUAAAACCACCUUUGUAUGGUUGUCAGUAAUGAUGGUCGGACCGCUUGUCUUGUUUGGGUAUCAGCUAACCGGUGUUCUUGUAAUUAUUUGACUGACAGAUUGUAUUUUGAGUUGUUUUUUAGUACGCCUUGUGCUCAAGAGGCGACUCUAUAUGUGUUAAUAUAUACCAUUUUUGCUUCUUAAAAAAAAAAAACAAGACUAAUUGCUAGCAAAAAUCUGAGAUUAAAAACCAACUAUGUUUUUAACCUUUGAGUCAUCAAAUUUUGUGUAAUUUGAGUAAAUUAAAAAUCAAUCUUUUGAUUAUUUUUUCCACUUGUAAGACAGAAAAACUUACAUGAUAUAGUGUUUAAAAACCAACUAUGUUUUUAACCUUUAUUAAUGUUGCACAUAAAGUAUUUAAAUAAAAAUUAUACAAUCAAACCCCUUUAGGAGGGAACUACAACCUAAUCUUCAAAUUGUUGAUUGUUUCUUCACUUCUUCAAAUCUUCAACCUUGUCACUUUCAAGGAUGGAAACAACCAAAGGUUUUUUUUUACUAGGUUCAUUAAAUUAGGUAAAGAUAAAUAGUUAUUGGAUGCCACUAUAAAUGACUAAAAGCUACCUUAUGAAAUAUUUUAUCAGAAAGUAUUUUGCUAGCACAAUAAUUCAUUCUCCUCCGUUUGAUGGUUUUGAACUCUGCUAGAUCCGGUACUCUUAGCGUCUUCGAAUAAUCUUAAUCCAUUCACAUCUGUUAUUAAUGCACUUAUGAACAUAAUUCUUAUCCCAAUUUAUGAUAUAGGAUUUUGGACAGUCCACGUUAGAUUCACAUUCAUCAAUUUCUGUAUAAAAUUAACAAAUGUUAAAAUAAUGUUACUAAUUAAACAUGACAAAGAUUGUGUAAAAACUAACAAGUAAAGAAGUAAAUUUGAAAAAGAUGAAAAAUAGCUUACUAUCAACAAUAUCCAUUGCAACAAGAAAUAUGGGAAGAAAUAUAAUUAUACCGAAGACAAAUUUGAGAAUUUCGGCCAUAUUUUUUUUCUUUCUUCUUUGCAUGUAAAAAGGUAAUAUGAUUUGAUCUCUUUAUAUGAUUUAAUCUUCAUAGCACUUAUGAAGUUGAGAAAAUCCUUCAUAAAAUUAAAAUCAUUAUUAAAUAUCUCUUAGUUAUAUGUGUGUUUUGUGUUUGUCCCUUUAUCACACCAAGUAAAGCAAGCAUUCACAUCGCAUAAUAGAAAAGAGAAUUCCUUUUAACCUUUCUUGUCACUUCUAAUUUUUCAUUUCUUUUUAAACCUUUCAUGAUAGUAAAGAGAAGAUAAUAGUUUCUUUUUAGACCUUAGCAAAGUUAUUUGUUGGAAUAACGAAUACACACACAUUAUGGAACCAUGUUUUAAGCAAAGUUUAUGUUCAAUACCAAAAAUUUUGUAAAGCAUUGUGAAUUAUAUAUUUGAUGUGAAUGGUAGUGUAGAAUAAAUCGUGCAAUUACAACAUUAUAUACACAUUCUUUCUUAUUCAACGAAUUUUUUUUUAAAAAAAAAAGAUCUUACAAUAAUUUCUAUGUUAGCAUAAACUAUGUUAUCAUCUCAAUGUUGUAUUAUUCAAAUAAAUAACUUUACCUAGGUAAAAAAAAAAAAAAAAUAUCUCUUUAAUACCAUGAAAGGUUAAAAAAGCAAUGAAAAAGUUAGGAGUAAUGAAAGGUUAAAAGAGAAAGUUGUCCCUUUUAUAACAUGAAAGGUUAAAAAAUAACUGAAGGUUAAAAAAUUCUAACUUAAAGUAGAUAUUUAAAUGACAUUUAUGAAGGUGAGAAAAACACAAGAAGGGGGUUGAAUUGUGUUGACUUUUUCUUCUUUUUCUUUAAAGCUGAAAACACUGAUCAGAAGCAGAUAUAGUUCUACUUCUGAAGUGAUGUUCAGAACUAGUUGCAGCAGAUAAAACAGAGAGAGAGAGAGAGAGAGAGAGAGAGAGAGAGAGAGAGAGAGAGAGAGAGAGAGAGAAGAAAGACACAAGCAAUUUAUACAGGUUCCUUCCACAACCAGGAAGUCAGUCCUGUCCCCCUUGCACUUCCAAGGAGGGUUCACUAUGUAAUAUCUGAUUACAAAUGCUCACUAUUAAACUUAGUAAGAGACUUCAAAUUGUUCAAGCACAACUGCAAGAGAUUUCCUAUGCUCCUGAACACAAUCAAGAGACUUCUAUUGCUCAAGCACAAAUGCAAGAGACAUUUGAAUUCAAACAGAAUUACAAAGAAUAUGUUUGAGUUUGAACACUUGAUAUACAAUCAGUGAUGUUCACAAUACAAAUCAGAUACAGACUCUAAAGACUCUAGAAUUUAUAAGAUAUGAGCUUUGAUAAGAAAUUCUAAGAGAACUUUGAAUGCAGAACAAUUUCAGCAGAGUUUUGGCUCAGUUAAUUCUUGGUAUUGUUCUUGUGAAACUCUGAGUCUUCACUCCUUUAUAUAGAGGUGUGAAAGAGAUGUUGAAUUGCCAGCACAUUCAAAAUAGAGUCGUUUGAAGCUUUUGAUCAAUCACCAAUGAUCCUUUGCCUGAUAUGGUUAUUGUCCUAAGAAGUAUCAAUUUCAAAUGCAUUCCCAUUGUAAAGGAACAUCGUUGCAGGUAGAGCUGUUUUUCUUGUCUUGUAGCAGAGACAAAACAGAGUAGUGGAGGUAGUGGUUGUACACUUCGUACAAACGUACUUUGUCAACGCUCUUUGAAGAAUAAACAUCCAAUGCCUUCAAAUCCUUUCAAAAUAAUCGUUGCUUUGCCUUUCCAGUCUUCUGCAAUCUUUAGACGAGUUUGAAUCCAUUAAACAACUUUUGAAGCUUUAAGUUGCAUCUCCUGAUGAACUGCAACUUCUCGUAAUUCUCAGCUUAUGAUAAAUUUGCUUCUGAUGAACUUGCUUCUGAUGACCUUACUUUUGAUGACGUCAUCACUUCAGGAGCACUUUGUUUUCAGGAGCGCUUUAUCUUCAGGAGUAGUUUUCUUCAGACGCUUUAAGCUUUCCUUUUUGCUGAGUUCUUUGCUCUUUAUUGUUCUUCCAAGACCUUUUUAAGAUGACAAUUUUUUGUCUAUAGUCAUGUACACUUGAACAAAUAUUAGCAUAUCCAAUUGACAAUUUAUAAUACAUUGUUAUCAUCAAAACUCUUAAGGGUUAAUGUUAGACACAUUUUGUUACAACAAUCUCCCCCUUUUUGAUGAUGACAAACAAUAGUAUUUAAAAUGUUCAAUUGUUGUUAAUCUAAUUAACACGUUGACUAUAAGGGUAUGAGGUUUGUAAGCUCCCCUGAGUCCAAUAGUACUUUAAGGUGAGGUUUGUAAGCUCCCCCGAGUUCUAUCCAUGUUAAUUAAAUUCAUCAUUUAAAAAUGAAAUAACUCUCAGAAUAAUCUCACAUAAAAAGACUAAGAGAUUAGAAGAAGGUCCUAUUAAUUUAACUUGAUUAGAAUUAAAUUAAUGAGGCUCAGAGCCUAUAAAUAGUAUACAUCUACUCCCCCUUUUGUCAUCAACAAAAAGUAUAAAAUAAAGACAAAAAGAAAGAUAUGAGAAAAAAUACAUUCAGGAGCAAUAUAACACAUGUAUAUAUAUAGUGAGAAAAAAUAGUGAGAAAUUAUGUAGAUAAAUACAUUCAGAAGCAAUAUAACACAUUGAAAAAAAAUCAGGUCAAACAGUAUCUUAAUCUCCCACAACGACAGUGUAGAAACAACUGAAUUUGGGAGAAAAAAAAUUAGAAAAUAGUUAAAAAUAAAAAAAAAUUGGAAAAUAGUUAAAAAAAAAUCGGUGAGGUAGCACUCAAUCAAACAAUACUAAAAAAAAUUAUAUGCAUCAGCGUAACAAAAAAAUAAACAGACGGACAUAAAAUAUUACUUUAAAUAAUAUUAAUGUGUAUAUGUAUUCGCGAGGUUGAGGAAAGGAAAUAAAAAUUCCCUUUAACUCAAAGUAGUUGAGCUACCCCACCCCAUUCAAUCGAAACUUUUAAGUGGGUAUCUGUGCAAGAAGAUUAAAGCUUCAUGUACCAAUAACACUUACUAGCUCACGACCCGUGCGAUGGCGGGGCUAUAUGUUAGAACUAACAAAUAAAUUUGCAAAAUUUAAAAUGAAUAUAGUUUGUUGAAAGAUUUCAAAGUUAUAUGUUAGAACUAACAUAAAUAAAUUUGCAAAAUUUAAAAUGAAUAUAGUUUGAUGAAAGAUUUCAAAGUAAUAAGAAAUUAAGUUAAAUGCGAAUUGAAAAACCAUUUAGAUAUUUUUUUUAAUCAUCAAACCAUAAAAUGAUAUUGUUAUUAGUGGACCAACUUGGUUUCAACAACAUCAAUAAGUGAGAGUCAAGAUAUAAGAAAAUAGCGAAAACAACGUGAGAAAAGUGACUUGUAGAACUUUCAAAAAGAGAAAAUAUCAAGAAAAGAAAAAUUCACGAGUUGUUAAAACAUAUGUAAUCUUUUAAUUUGAUUAUUCUUAAAAAUGUGCUAAAACAUAUUUAAGUCAGUUAAUAAAACAUGUGACAUAAAACAUGUUUGAGAUGAGUUUUAAAGAAGUAAUCUCUAUUUAAAAUGUAGUGUUUUGUACAUAAGUCACAGUUGUAAAAUAAUUGUUGUGUUGGAUAUGGUGGCCGAGAUUUGAACCAGACUCCUAUAUUUAUGUGAGUUUUCAAUAGUUCUUGUUAUUUUGUUUAUCAAUAAAAAAAAAAAUAUAGUGUUUUCACCAAAAUUGGAAAAAAAAUACCACCGUUGUCCACGAAAAAAAAUUUCAAUUCGUUUAUAGAGAGAGUAACUUAUACCAUAGGGUAGUAAAAUCUAGUAGAGAAUCUUUAGAUUUUACUACUUGCAUUUUCAUCAAUCCAAACAUACAUAUUUACCAAUCAUGAACUUUUUUUUUCUUUCUUUUUUUUAUCGAAUCCUAGUUCUUAUCAUGAAAUAUUAUAAACAAACUCCCCAGACACAGGGAUAUUUAUAACAAGUUCACUUACUGAACAGAUAAGAAACAAGAAUUUGAAAUAAAACAAGGAUGAGUUCUUAAAUAUAUUCAGUGGAAGCUAAUUUGUGAAGGUAAUCAAUAUUAUAUAUCCUCAAGCUGAAGUCCCUUCUAAGGAUCAUUCAUGUGUACUGAUGAUAAUGAACUCAAGUUUGUUGAGACUUCAUCUGUUGCUUUUUUUCGCACGACUGUUGCACCGGACUAUUCAUUAACUCCUCAAGUCCUUUGUGGUUGUGUGUAUUGCUUAGUGGAUGGUUACAUCAAUGGUAUAUACUUCUCUACCCCCUUCCAUUUAGUAGAUAUUGUAAAAUCAAGGACAACCUCCUGAGGCUUAGGAGAAGCUAUAUAUAACUCUUUUCAACCUCAUGUGUUGGAUGGAUCACCAUUGUUCACUGCCUUCUUUGGAGAUUGAUUUUUCAGGCCAAAAUACAUUCAGUCCCUUGCCUGUAUGUAUGACCAAAAUACACUCAAUUCCUUUAUAAAAUCUUACCAUACAUCUACAAUAUACUAUUUUUUUUCUUUGCUAUAAGGAUGGAAUUUUAAAUAUGUUUGGUGAAAAAAUGAUAUGUGAAGGUAAUUAGCAUUAUAAAGUCCUGAAAAUCAAUUCCAACCACAAGGAGGUGGAAAGAGUAUUACUUUGUUGAAGCAUGCAAUAAAAAGAAAGCCGACUAAAGUUUCGAUAUGUAUGUUAAAAUAAAUUAGUUUGACGAGGCAGAAAAUUCAUGUUAAAGUAUUCACUAAGAUAUGAACUAUGCCUUACCUUGAAAUUAACCAUAACCAGCAAAGAGCUAUCAGUUAAAGGAAAUUGAUAUCUUCAGCAGCAAACUUCAUUCCUAAUAUUGGUGUUUCCCCUGAUCAAACAUGAAACUCCGACUCUUUCAUAAAUAUAUUAUACAUGAAAGGGCUAUUUCAUAAAUGAAGGACCAUCACCUGCAUAUUUUCAUGGAUACAUGUAUUUAAAUUGAAAUCAAGUAAUAAUAUAUGUUAAAAUUAAUACUAUAGGAAUGAAGAUCUAUGCCAUAUCAAUACCAGCAUCAACGGAAGUGGAGAUGCGAUAACAAUAAUCUGACCCAUAAGGUUGACAAUUUUAAUCGAUUUCGUCUGAGACAAAAUCACAAGGUUCACAUAAAUCAAGUCUCUUAAAAAAUGUCUCAGCUAUUUCAUAUCAUCCAAAAUCAUCACCUUUUAUAGUUUCUGUGGUUCAGCUGAAGCAUCCUCUUGCUUUCAGGAAAAGCAGUGGACACAACACAACUUGAUCAAUAACAUUGUCCGACACAAACAUGGCUGUGAUUCAGCAGCAUUCCACAACAUAUCUGACACAAACAUAAUGAAAUAACAUGAGUGACUCGACUAGAAUCAUGAAAUAGCUAAUACACACCUUCCUAAUGAAGAGCUGUAUACACACCUGGCUAAUAGCUUGAACCAAGAAUUUUGAUUUGUUGCAUUAACAAGCUCAGCAUCAAUUCUAAAGAUAUGGCCCAAUUCUCACAAUAAUUUUACUCGUAGACAUAUUCCAUACAAAAACAGAGAAAGCAAGUGAUUCCUGCAUAUAGAAAUUUAAAUUAGAAAGUAAUUUGGGGAUAAGAAGAUGCAGGGAAGAGAUAAAACUAGCAUACAUCUUCUUCCAGAUAACUGUCUUGAGAAAUACUUAGAAAUCAAAUAUGCAUGAAUCAACAGAGUUUAGUGCAUGAAUCAACAGCCGUCAAUAUUCUUUAGUACUAUGAAAUUCUCAACAAAAUUCUGACUCAAAGCCAUAGAAAGAUAAAUUCUGAACUAAAUUUGUCCUAAAGGAUCACCUAAAAUCUGUACCAACAAAUUAUACUUAUUACGUAUGCAGGUCCACUCAUCAUGAACUAAGUUUGCAAUUAAAAAGUGUGGCUAGCAAUCAUUGAUGUAGUUAACGUCUUACAAAUAUUGCGUCGUCAAUGCUCUAAUCACAGUGCCGUAAAAAUAAAUCAAAAUGUUCAAAGAAUUAUAAAAGGGACAUAUACCUCUGGAAAACAUUGAAAAUCUCCUGUCAGGGAGAGAACUCUAUCAGGAACAAUUGCUGCUAUUUUACAAGCUAUCAUAGAUCCUGUUUCAAUAGGCAAACAAUAUUAAAAAUAAACAAACAAAUAAACUCAACCUAAUCAAAUCUUAGGAAAAACCAUCUGAAUUUUAACUAAAUCAAAACUCAAUAAACACACAAAAUAAUAACCCGUUGAGUACCCAAAAACACGAGCCUUUUUCCAACCUAAAAUGACCCAACAAAGUAAUUGUAUCUUUUGCCAUGAUCUUUGUUCUGCACCCAACAAUCAUUCACCAAUAUUCAAAACUUCACAUUGAUGACAUGUCUGAUGUUUAGAUACUGAUAUGACACCAACCAUAUAAUUACAUUCAAAAACUUUUAUUUCUGCAAAUUAUUAUCAAAACUAAGCAAAGAGGAAGCCCAACAACAUAUAAUUUAAAUAAACAAUCUAAAACAAAGAAAUAAAGAAGACCAACAAAAACUUAUAAAAAUGGAAUAGACCUUGAUUAUCAAAAUCGCAAUCCUCGAUACCACUACUGGACCCAUUGUCGCUUCCUCCACUCUAAAAGACUUCGUCUUCGUCAUUGGGUAUGUUUGUUCCAUUAAUCCCGUUAUUUGUCUUGUGUGUUGAAGGCAAUCCUAACCAUUCAAUUAAAUCCCCACAAAAUCAGUAAAAUUAAAAAUAAAAAAAAAUCGAAAAUGCAAAUUAAAAAAAAUUAAACUAUGAUGAAGAAAAUGACCUGAAUUAGAACAUUUGUAACUUUAGUUGAGCAGUGAAAUAUCUUUCAUGUAUAAAGAUUCUGGUGCUCAUUCUGGGGGGAUGGGUUCCAAAGAAGUCAAGAUUGAGAAUAUAUAAAAAUAUUUUUGAAUAAAAAUAAAGUGAAUUGAGGCAAAUAAGGGGAAAUAGAGAUCUUACCAGUAAAAUUGAAUUUUGCGAUUGUGAUUGAGGCAGAUAAGGGUAAACGUCUCUGCUUCUUAAUCCUCUGUAAACAGUAUUUUUGGAAUAUGAGCUAUCUUGUCCCAAUCCUCCCAUGUUCCCUCUUUGCAUCGUUCCUCUAAUGUUGGGCAAUCAAUGAUAUCAAGAAGCUCAAGAGAAGUGAGGUGUCGAAUACCCUCCGGCAAGCAUCGCAAUCCUCUACAACCCCAAAUCUGUAGAGCUCGAAGGGAUUGAAGACCUUCCCAGUUUUGCUCUGGUAAGGACUCCAACUCAUUACAACAAUUGAUACACAGAGAUUGAAGAGAAGUAAGGUUUUUGAACAUCUCCUCUGGUAAGGAUGUUAUUCCUUCACCACUAUUUAGGGUAAGCUGAGUAAGACCACGGAAGGUAGAGAUUGACCUCAGUAACUCAUUGUUACAUUCCCAUAAAUGGAGGGAUUUAAGAGAUGGAAGACAUGGCAGUCCAAGUUCAGGGCAAUCCCAGAUAUCCAACUUAGAAAGACAAGGAAACAUCUCCCCUCUUUCCACUUUCAAUAAUCCCUCUAUGUUUGGUAGGGAUUUUAAGUUGAGUUCCUCUAGAGAUGGGAAAACGCUCACCUCCAUACCAUACUCAGAUUCAUCAUCAUCCAAGUAUUUCAGAUUAUUCAUACCAUAUAAUCUUAGUUUUUUUAGAGAUGGUAGUUUACCAAGUAACGGAAGCCGCACAAUUUUGUUGCAAAUCUCAAGUUCAAGAGAAAUUAAAUUACUAAGAAUAAUUAUCCAACUUGGUAACGAUAAUCCUUCAUAGUAAUUUAUUGUCAAGCAUUUGAGAUUUGAGUGAGGUUGAAGCACUUCAAGUACUUGCUCAGCACUAACCGUAGAUUCCUCCUUGUAUACCCAUGACAAGCAUAAUUCAUGAAGGUCUUUUUUACCCAUCAAAUUAGCCGCUUCAGCUUCAGAUAAACUGCCAACAUUGUUUAAUCCUUUGAUACUCAGUUUUCCACCGAGGUUUAGAUCACGUAACUCUGUCAAGCUAUUCCCUUUCUCUAAACUAACAAUGUACACACUUAAUGUUCUUAGACAAGUUAAUUUUCCAAUGUUAGGAAACAUGAGAGACAAAGAUUUACAUCUGUCAAUGACUAUAUGUCUAAGAUUUUG